GACGCCACACAGGUGCUCAAUGAGGUGGAGGAGGUCAAAAAGGAGUACCCUGACGCCUACGUCCGUAUCAUCGGCUUCGACAACCUGCGGCAGGUGCAGUGCGUCAGCUUCAUCGCCUUCAGGCCACCGGGUUGCGAGGAGUCCGGCAAGGCAUAAAGUGCAAGUUGAAGUAACCGAUAUACAUGCCAUGUUAGUUCACAUUGGUCGGUCGGUAGCUCUGCUUUCUCAAUUUUACUUCUUGUUCCAAUCAUAUGUGAAUAUACGAGCAUAUGUAUGUAAGCACCUACCAACGUAGGUCGAGGAAGAUGCAUAUGAGAAUCAUAGUACCGGCUAUACAUACUUUGUUUGCAGCUGGAAAUGCCUAUGUCUUGUAUUGUUUUCUUCUCAUGCAUUUUUUGCUCAAUCAUAUGUUGUGUAUUAUCUAAUGCAAAAAUUGUUAUGGAAUACCAAAGUACUUCAAAAUACUAUGGAGAAACACAUAACAAGUGGUGAGAUCCCCUUGAAAACUACUCCCUUCGUUCCUAAAUAUAAGUCUUUUAAGAUAUUUCACUAGGAGUCUACAUACGAAGCAAAUGAAUGAAUCCACACUCUAAAGUAUGUCUAUAUACAUCCGUAUGUAGUCCAUUAAUGAAACCUCUUUAAAGACUUAUAUUUAGAAACGGAGGGAGUACUGGCAAAACAGUAGGGAAUUGACGAGAAACAUACAAUAACAAAAAACUAAAAACCAAAUUAGAAAACUAGAAAAAAGUACAAACAAAGGUUUCAAAACAAGACAAGGACAAACCUACCGUACCGCACUUGUCAUGUGAGCCGUAUUCCUGCAUCGAUGCAUCAAUAACAUGCCACUUUUUCUAACCAUUUUACACCACAAUUAGAUAUUCUUUUUAUAGUAUUACAGAAGGAUGAACUAUAUGCACCUCUUCUGGUGAUGAUUCAGUCCGGUCCAUGAUCGUUACAUCAGUGCGUAUGUCGAAACCCAUCACUUUCUAUCUCUGAUGAAAUAUAAAUAUAUUUUAUAUCGCAUCAUAUAAAAUUUACAGAAGACAUAAUAAAAGUGAAACUAAAACAACUAUUUUAUUUUGUAAAAACAAAAAACAUUUUUUUUUCAUAUUAUUGAAAAACGUGUUGCAUUUAUAUUGGAGCAAACAACCAAAUAUAAUGUUUAUAUUUAAAUAAGCAGUAUUCUCAAAUUUCUUAAAUCAUUUUAAUAUAUUUAUAUAGCCUAAGAAAAAUUGUCCGAGAAAAGUUAAAAACAUGCACGCGAUCCAACAUAAACCAAGUAUAUUCAGUUUUUUGUUUCAAAAUUGUGAAUUUUUAUGAUACUCUGAAUAUAUCAAAUAAGUAUAAAAAAUAUUUAUAUGUAUGAUCCAUGUUUUAUUAAUAUAUACUUUAAUAUAUAUAUAUAUAUAUAUGUGUGUGUUUUAAGACAACUUUUAAUAUAUAUGUUUCUUCGCAGGGAUUCUUUUUAGGCAUUUUUCAUGUGUGAAAUGUUGGUGAUUGAAGGCCCAAAUUGGCUAUUCGGGCACCGCCGAGCCAACACCCAAUAAACCUCUAAAAAAAUAAAAAAAUAAAUAUCACCAACCCUACUUCACCGGACGACCCAACCAGCCCUGUCUCCAUCACCCUCUCUCUCUCCGCUCCCUGUCUCACUCUCUCCACUCCUCGUCUCACUCCCUUGCACAGAAAAUCCUAUAUGUGGAAGACUGACCCACUCCACUCCCUCUGCUCUCGCCCCACAGCCAGCGACCUCGUCUUCCACCACACAUCCACCUCUCAUCCCUUUCCCUUCAACCAUCCACCGGCGACCAGUUGCGCGCACACACUAUAAGAAAUAUGUCAACUUUUGACCUUUCAUAUUGGUCAAUGAAUGGUCGUUGUUUUCCAUUUAUGACCUUUUUAUGACCGAAAACAAUUGGUAAAAAGAGGACCGUCUCUAGUGAACUAUAACAACCUUUCUUCUGGAAUGGUCGUAGCAGGCAAUGAUCAAAACGAAAAGGUCGUUGGUUCUACGACCAAUUGUUUUGGUCACUGGUUGUGUGCCCAGGCCACGUCAAAUCCAACGUGGCAAGCUGGCGUGGAAAAAUUACGUCCAAUUCGGUGUCCAUAUGGGCCGAGCCCAACAAUUCAGCCCAUUUAAUUAUCAUUUUUUGUUGUCAUUCUGGUCGGCUACAUGGGUCUCACCCGAUAUUUCAGCCUUUUUUUGGUCGUGGCCUUUCUGGCUCAAUGGUUCCAGUUUUUUUUCUUCAGAAGAUGGGUCCAAUAGACAAAUGGGUUCCGAUUGUCAGCUUCUAGUAUGAGGAUUCAUGUUUUCAAUUCACCAACAAAUAAAUAACCAAUAUUUAAUUCAAAACAGACAAAAAGAACACAUAAUACUUCAAAUAACAGCCACAAUAAGUCUAUUACAACAUAUAACUUAGAUACAAUGGUGAUCACAACCACAAGCUCUACAAGUGUAAACACAACCACAAGCUCUACAAAUGUAAUCACAGCCGCAAGCUCUAUAAGUGCCCUUUGAUAGCUUCGAGUGGACCUUUCAAGGGUCUUCUCCAUAGUGCCGACCAAGAUCUCACCCUUCAUGGGCAUCAGAGCAAUGCAACUAAACGUGGCAGGGAAAAGGACUACCUGCCAAAAGCCAAAUCUAUACAAGAUAUCAGCCUUUCAGUGGUGUAGAAUAUCAUAGAUAGAGACGUGCUUCAGCAUUACAUGGCAUGGAAACGUAGAAUGCAUUUUUUACAAAGGGCAUACAAUUGCAAAUUUACUAUCCACAAAACAAAUUAGAAAAAACAAAUAAAACAGUGAAGUGUAAAAAAUAUAAGCCAUAGUGUUUCUACUUCCCACAAAUGACUGACACCAUGGUGUUUCAACUACAUGGCAAUCUAGUCACUCAAGAUGCGUCACCAAUCUAGUCACUCAAGAUGCAUCUUGUAGAACACUAUUCUAUAAUAGUAUAUAUCGAGCAUGAUACAACAGAAGCUUGAAUUUAUGGUUUUUAUAAUUCGACAUUAUACAUCCCCGGUUAUAUAGACAUGUUUAUCACAUACUGUACACGACAAUAGAAGAAAAAUUCUAAUAAAUUCGUUAGAGGCUUUCCAAUAAAAAUGAUAAGUUACCUGCAUACCAGGAAACAUAAACUUGAGAGGUUCAGAUCAAGGCCAAUGGAGCAAUGCAUCAUAAUUAACAGUUUUAAAUACUAUAGGACCAGGAAGUAGGUGUCGCUUCAAAUUUAAAAACUCAACCAUUCAUCAUUAAGAGUAGCAAUUUAAUCUAAUAGUAAAACAAUGCUCCUAAAAUAGUUUUCACACUGGAACUAUGAGGCAGCUAAAUUACAAGAUAUGGUUUGCCCUUUUUUCACAACAUCGAUGAGCUAAAGGGUUCUGCAGGGUUAGGCAGCUCAUCUAAAACUAUGUAUUUACUCUAUGCCAUCAUGUAUUCACAAAGUGGUCGAUCAUUCUCACAUAUUUUAAUAUAAAGAAGGGAUCCUAGACAGCUACUUGUGUAGUAUACAUGGCAAUCUAGUCACUCAAGAUGCGUCACUGCUAUCCGCUAGAGCACACAACAUACAAACCACCACUAAAAUUGACGCGGGGCGCAAGGGUAGGGCGAAAUAUCACACCUUUCAGUUUGGACGGAGUGUAGAACUCGACGACAUCGAGCAGCCUCACCUCCAGCUCCACGUGCGAUUGCUCCUGGACCUGCCAUAUAAGGAAAAGACAUCAGGCCACGAGACCACGAGACCUGCAAUACGAGGAUUUUAUUAGCUCACUGGAUGGUGUGUACUUCACAUCAUAACCAAUUUGAAUACUAUGGUUUCUGAAAAAACUUUGGUACUAAAUACUUUGAGAUGUUUGGUUUAAAAAAUUAUUGUGGUUUAAGAUAUUGCGAUAUCUCUCAUACUGCAGUUUUUCUAUAUUACUUAAAAAAGUGCCCCCCAUCAUUUUUAAACAGAAACAUCCUAUUGAUUCUCUUUGCACUUGAAGCCACUACAAGAAAACCCAUGACUGAAAUCAUAACACCACCACUAAGAUCCCCGGUUGUAACAAGGAUCACACGGGUAGGAUACACUAUGCUUUGCUGGACAAGAAAGACAACAGUUUGCAGAAGGGGUGGAGAAGGGGCAUGGGGACGAACCAGUUCUAGAGGCCAAUGCGGAAGAAGUUGGACUUGCGGUAGGUGUAGCAGGGGAGCGCAUCAAUGCGCCAUUGUGUGAGCCACAACGCCGCCUCGACCGAGGACCCCACGACAUCGCAUCGAUCAUGGCCCCCCACGCCGCCGCCGCCGCCACCACCUCAUCGACGCAGCCCAGCAGCCCCAGCGCCCCCUUCCGCAGGCUCCCUGUGACCGCUCCUCAUGAACUGCCGCGAUCCCGCGCGCGCACGACCAAACCCCAAACGCCAACCACUCAGCACGACGACGACGUGGACAUGGAUAGAUCGCUGCGACGGAUGACUCACGGUCACAGCGGUAUGCAGGAGGUGUGCGCGCAGCCAAAGCGUCGCAGAGGGCUGUCCGUCCCGGUUAUUGGCGAGCGGCGCGCGCGUAAGAGCAUCUCUAGCAGAACCCUCAAACCCUUAAAUCUAAAACCAGUUUUAAGGGUUGAGAAUUGGCCAUUUUUGACACUUUUAAGGGUUGAAAAACAAGGGCAAAGACUAGAACCCUCAAACCCAACCCUUAUAACGGAAUAACCCUCAAACCCAACCCUUAUAACGGAAUAUUCCGUUAUAAGGGUUGGGUUUGAGGGUUCUAGUCUUUGUCCCAACCCCAACCCUUAAAACUGUCAUUUCAUAUAUCACACGUUUCAUCACAUUUCAUCAUAUGACAUAUCACAAAUUCAAUCACAUUUGACAUAAAACAAUAAUCAUUCUAGUUAUUAUUACACCACCGAAUAAAACAAUAAUCAUUCAAAUUAUUACAACAAUGUUUGAGCAAAUUAAAACAAUAAUACAUCAUAAUUCAUGAGUAAACAUUUGACAAUGGAGAUAAAAUGUAAAGUGAAAUAAUAGCAACUUUGGAAGAUCAUGAUAAUCUGAAGCAAAAUACAAGGUAAGCAUAUCAUGAAAAUUUGAAACCAAAUUAUUACAUGCUAACUUAUUUCUUAGCAGCAAUCUGAAGAAAAAUACAAGGUAAGCAUAUCAUGCAAAAUCUAUUUACUAGCCUGUAUUUGUAACUGAUUUCUUAGCAGCAAAAUCUGCCAUGAAAUCGGUAUCAAUUGCACAGGGCAAAACCUGAAACAACUAAUUGCACAGGGCAUGUAUCAAUUGCACACGGCAAAAUCUGUCAUGAAACCUGAAACCAUGAAACCUGAAGCAAAAUCUGUUAUGACUUGCCUGAAAAAAAUUCAGUUGGCUAGAAACUCACAUACACAGAGCAUGUAUCAAUUGCCUCUGUGCCAAUAAUUUUGUUCUACUUAUCUAGCAAAACCAGGAAGAGUAUGUACACUAGAGCUCGCGAGGGCACCAUGGUAGAAGUAUGGAGGUGGAGAAGGAUUGGAACAGGAGCUCAUCGGGGCGUCGGGGAACUGCUGCAGCGGCGAGGUGGGCGGCUCAGGCCGGGGCUGGCGCAGGGGCGGGCGCGGGGCCGGCCGGGGCUGGCACGGCGGCCGANNNNNNNNNNNNNNNNNNNNNNNNNNNNNNNNNNNNNNNNNNNNNNNNNNNNNNNNNNNNNNNNNNNNNNNNNNNNNNNNNNNNNNNNNNNNNNNNNNNNGAAUCCCACUUAUGAUUAACCCCUCUCGCAAGCAUCCGUAACUACGAAAGAAGAAUUAUGACAAAGUCAAACCAUAGCAUUAAACUAGUGGAUCCAAAUCAGCCCCUUACGAAGUAACACAUAAACUAGCGUUUAAGCUUCUGUCACUCUAGCAACCCAUCAUCUACUUACUACUUCCCAAUGCCUUCCUCUAGGCCCAAAUAAUGGUGAAGUGUUAUGUAGUCAACGUUCGCAUAACACCACUAGAGGAAAAACAACAUACAACAUAUCAAAAUACCGANNNNNNNNNNNNNNNNNNNNNNNNNNNNNNNNNNNNNNNNNNNNNNNNNNNNNNNNNNNNNNNNNNNNNNNNNNNNNNNNNNNNNNNNNNNNNNNNNNNNNNNNNNNNNNNNNNNNNNNNNNNNNNNNNNNNNNNNNNNNNNNNNNNNNNNNNNNNNNNNNNNNNNNNNNNNNNNNNNNNNNNNNNNNNNNNAGUAAUCCAACUAGCAUCAACUACAAAGAGUAGUCAACACUACUAGCAACCUUACAAGUACCAAUCGGAGUCGCGAGAUGGAGAUUGGUUACAAGAGAUGAACUAGGGUUUGGAGAUGAGAUGGUGGUGAUGAAGAUGUUGAUGGAGAUGAGUCCCCUCCGAUGAGAGGAAUGUUGGUGAUGACGAUGACGACGAUUUCCCCCUCCGGGAGGGAAGUUUCCCCGGCAGGAUCGUCCUGCCGGAGCUCUUGAUUGGUUCUGCUCAAGUUCCGCCUCGUGGCGGCGGCGAAACCAUGAUAAAGCUCCCUUCUGAUUUUUUCCUGGACGAAAUCCUCCAUAUAGAAAAAUAGGGGGGCAAGUGGGCCAGUAGGGUGACCACAAGCCCCCAUGGCGCGGCCUGGGGGGNNNNNNNNNNNNNNNNNNNNNNNNNNNNNNNNNNNNNNNNNNNNNNNNNNNNNNNNNNNNNNNNNNNNNNNNNNNNNNNNNNNNNNNNNNNNNNNNNNNNAUGCAUGUAGUACAUCCAAUCUGCAAAAUGGGAAUAAGAAAGUCAAAAAAAGAACAACAACAACAACAUAUAUAUGACAAAUGAGCUAAAUUGAAGAAGAAAGAGAAGAAGCAAGAAGGGAACAAGGAGAAGAAAAACAAGUAGGAGGAGGAGGAGGAGGGGAAGGAGAAGGAGAAAGAGGAGGAGAAGAACAAAAAAGAAGAAGAGAAGAAGAAGGAGAAGAAGGAGGAGAGAAGAAGAAGGAGAAGAAGGAGGGCUCCUUUUCCUUCUUCUCCUCCUUCUCCUUCUUCUUCUCUUCUUCUCCUCCUCCUCCUUCUUCUUCUCAUUCUCCUUCUCCUUCUCUUCUUCUUCUCUUCUUCUUCUUCUUCUUCUUCUUCUUCNNNNNNNNNNNNNNNNNNNNNNNNNNNNNNNNNNNNNNNNNNNNNNNNNNNNNNNNNNNNNNNNNNNNNNNNNNNNNNNNNNNNNNNNNNNNNNNNNNNNNNNNNNNNNNNNNNNNNNNNNNNNNNNNNNNNNNNNNNNNNNNNNNNNNNNNNNNNNNNNNNNNNNNNNNNNNNNNNNNNNNNNNNNNNNNNNNNNNNUAUGUCUUUUAGGAGCUUAAUUAGUCAUUUUAUUAUGUCUUCUUGUUCUCCUCCUCCUUCUUCUCCUUCUCCUUCUCUUCUCUUUCUCUUCUUCUUUUUGUUCUUCCUUUUCAUUUCUCAUCUUCUCCUCUUCUUGGAGCUAAAUUAGCUAACUAUGUAUUUUUGGAUCUAAAUGGUCUAAUUAUGUCAUUAUAGAGGAAAACAAGCUAAGUAUAUAAUAUUAAUGAGCUAACCAAGGUUCUUAUGCCAUUUUGAGCUUAUAAUGUCUUUUUGGAGCUAAAUUGGCUAAUUAUGUCAUUGGUGGGGAAAUUAAGGCAAGGAGAAUAUGAAAGAGGAGAAGAAAGAGGAGGAGGAGGAGGAGAAGAAGAAGAAAUAAAGAAGAAGGAGGAGAAGCAGGAGGAGGAGGAGAAGGACUAGAAGGUCCUUGGCCUUCUCCUCCUUCUCCUCUUCCUCCUUCUCCUUCUUCUGUUCUUCUUCUUCUUCUUUCUUUUCAUUUUUCCUAUUUCUUCUCAUGUUCUCCUCUUCUUGGAGCUAAAUUAGCUAACUAUGUCUUUUUGGAGCUAAAUGGGCUAAUUUUCCCAUUUUAUAGGAACACACGCUAAGUAUAUAAUAUUAAUGAGCUAACCAAGGUUCUUAUGCCAUUUUGAGGUUAUUAUGGCAGUUUGGAGCUAAAUGGGCUAAUUAUGUCAUUGUUGGGGAAAUUAAGGCAAGAAGAAUAUGAAAGAGGAGAAGAAAGAGGAGGAGGAGGAGAAUAAGAAGAAAUAAAGAAGAAGCAGGCGAAGGAGGAGGAGGAGAAGGACUAGAAGGUCCUUGGCCUUCUCCUCCUCCUUCUCCUCCUCCUCCUCCUCCUCCUCCUUCUUCUUCUUCUCCUCCUCCUUCUUCUCCUUCUCCUUCUCUUCUCUUUCUCUNNNNNNNNNNCUCUUCUUCCUUUUCAUUUCUCCUCUUAUCCUCUUCUUGGAGCUAAAUUAGCUAACUAUGUAUUUUUGGAGCUAAAUGGGCUAAUUAUGUCAUUGUAGAGGAAAACAAGCUAAGUAUAUAAUAUUAAUGAGCUAACCAAGGUUCUUAUGCCAUUUUGAGCUUACAAUGUCUUUUUGGAGCUAAAUGUGCUAAUUAUGUCAUUGUUGGGGAAAUUAAGGCAAGGAGAAUAUGAAAGAGGAGAAGAAAGAGGAGGAGGAGGAGAAGAAGAAGAAAUAAAGAAGAAGAAGGAGAAGGAGGAGGAGGAGGAGGAGGAGAAGGACUAGAUGGUCCUUGGCCUUCUCCUCCUCCUCCUUCUCCUUCUUCUCUUCUUCUUCUUCUUCUUCUUCUUUCUUUUCAUUUUCCCUAUUUCUUCUCCUCUUCUCCUCUUCUUGGAGCUAUAUUAGCUAACUAUGUCUUUUUGGAGCUAAAUGGGCUAAUUAUCCCAUUUUAGAGGAAAACAAGCUAAGUAUAUAAUAUUAAUGAGAUAACCAAGGUUCUUAUGCCAUUUUGAGGUUAUUAUGACAUUUUGGAGCUAAAUGGGCUAAUUAUGUCAUUGUUGGGGAAAUUAAGGCAAGGAGAAUAUGAAAGAGGAGAAGAAAGAGGAGGAGGAGGAGAAGAAGAAGAAAUAAAGAAGAAGGAGGAGGAGGAGGAGGAGGAGGAGGAGGAGAAGGACUAGAAGGUCCUUGGCCUUCUCCUCAUUCUCCUCCUCCUCCUCCUCCUUCUCCUUCUUCUCCUCCUCCUUCUUCUCCUUCUCCUUCUCUUCUCUUUCUCUNNNNNNNNNNAUUUUUGUUCUUCCUUUUCAUUUCUCCNNNNNNNNNNNNNNNNNNNNNNNNNNNNNNNNNNNNNNNNNNNNNNNNNNNNNNNNNNNNNNNNNNNNNNNNNNNNNNNNNNNNNNNNNNNNNNNNNNNNGGGUCUUCUGCAUCCUCUCAGUUGCAUAGCACCAACGAUCUUGCACCGGCCCACCCAAUCUUGCCUCGGUUGGUAGAUGUAAAAUCAAAUGCUGCAUUGGAUUAAAGAAGCCCGGUGGAAAGAUCUUCUCUAACUUGCACAACAACUCCGGUGCAAACUCCUCCAUGUCUUCUACCACGCCAGGCGACAAUUAUUUCGCACAAAGAACACGGAAGAAAUAGCUCAGCUCCGCCAGUACUAGCCAUUCAUCCUCAGGAAUAAAGCCACGUAACAUCACCGGCAUUACCCGCUCUAGCCAUAUGUGCCAAUCAUGACUCUUGAGACCAAAGAUUUUUUAUUUUUCAAGACUCGCUCCCCUCUUUAGAUUCGCUGCAUACCCAUCGGGGAACAUCAAGUGCAUUUUGACCCACAAGAUAAUUUCCCUCAUAGGUGGCCUUCCAAGAUUGAACCAGGCCUUUGGCUUCGACCACUUCUGCUUUCCUUUGCCUUCUCGCAUGUUUUGUAAUGGUCUAUGACAUACUGUCUCUUGAUCGACUAUAGCCUUAGUAUUAUCCUUUGUCUUCCCAUCUAUGUGAAACAAUGUACCAAAAUAGCCUCUCCGAUAUUCUUUUCAGUGUGCAUCAUGUCGAUAUUGUGUGGAAGAAGGAGGUCUUUGAAGUAAGGCGGAUCCCAGAAGCAUGGCUUGUGAGUCCAGGCGUGUUUUGAAUUAUACCCCUUGAAAUACCCUGGACGCUCUAGAUCAGGCUCGAGGGCAUUUAACUGAUCCAGGAUCUGUUGGCCUGUCAACACAGGUGGUGCCAAGUUCUUGACAACUUUACAUUUGGUAAAGUUCUUCUUGUCUUUUCUGAACUGAUGGUCAGGAUCCAGGAACUGUCUAUGCAAAUCAAAGCAAGAAUACUUCCGACCCUCCUGCAACCAAUGAAACUGAAGAGCUGCCUUGCAUUGGGGGCACGGGAACCUUCCAUGCACACACCAUCCAGAGAAUAGUGCAUAUGCCGGCAAGUCAUGCAUAGAGUACACGUACCACACAUGCAUUUUGAAGUUUUGUUUUCUAGCCGCAUCGUAUGUCUUGACCCCAUUAUCCCAAGCGUCUUCCAAUUCAUCCUUAAGCGGAUGCAGGUACACAUUCAUAUUCUUCCCCGGAUAAUUGGACCCUGGAAUUAUCAACGUCAGAAAUAUGUUCUUUCUUUGCAUAAUCUGCCCGGGGGGGGGAGAUUCAGUGGAAUGACAAAUACAGGCCAACAACUGUAUUGGGUUGCCGUCAUGCCGAAGGGAUUAAAACCAUCCGUGGCGGCGCAGACUCGAGGAUUUCUUGGAUCUGCCGCUUUAUCCUGAUGCAAUCCAUCGAAAUGUUUCCACNNNNNNNNNNAGAUUGAGUGGAAUGAAAAAUACAUGCCAACAACUAUAUUUGGUUGUCGUCAUGCCGAAGGGAUUAAAACCAUCCGUGGUGAUGCAGACUCGACGAUUCCUUGGAUCUGCCGCUUUAUCCUGAUGCAAUCCAUCGAAAUGUUUCCACGCUUCCCGAUCCGAUGUGUGUACCACCAUAUUAUUCCCAUCCGCAUCUAGUUCGGUUCUUUUGCCCAAUUUGUGCCAUGUCAUCUGUCUGGCUGUCUCUUCGACCAUGAAAAUACGUUGAAGUCUUGGUACGAUUGGCAUAUACCGAAGAACACUAACUGCGAUUUUGGUCUGCCUCUCGCACCCAUACCGUUGUCUACCACAAGAUACCUGCAAGACUCGCAAUUGGGACAAUAGUCCAAGUGUGCAUACUCCUUCCUAAAUAAGACACAUCCUUUCUCACAUGCAUCUAUCUUCUCAUAGGGCAUCUUAAGUACGCGAAGUAUUUUGUCCGACUGGUACAGGUUUGCAGGAAUGACAUGGCCUUUGGGUAGGAAACGUCCAAAUAGUGUCAUCAUCGCGUCGUAGCAUUCUCUUCCCAAGUUGAACUGAGCCUUCAGAGCCAUUACUUGUGCAAUUGCAUCCAGCUGACAGAGCUCGGUGUGCUCAUGGAGAGGUCGUUUUGAAGACUCCAACAUUUCAUAAAAGGCCUUUGCAGAUUCCUCCNNNNNNNNNNAUCGUAGCAUUCUCUUCCCAAGUUGAACAGAGCCUUCAGAACCAUUACUUGUGCAAUUGCAUCCAGCUGAUAGAGCUCAGUGUGCUCAUGGAGAGGACGUUUUGAAGACUCCAACAUUUCAUAAAAGGCCUUUGCAGAUUCCUCCAUCUCAUCUUCCGAAUCCCGAGCAUCAUCAAAGUCUUGCACCAUGUCUUCGAUCCCAGUACCAUGCUCGUCCGUGUGACGACGGACCACCUCAGCUCUUGUGCGUUGUAUAGACUCACCAUGAAAUGUCCACACCAUAUAAUUAGGCUUAAAACCCCUCCUCUGCAGGUGUUUAAUCAUUACAGCCUCUGUUGUCUUUUUAUAGUUGUCGCAUCCAGGACAGGGGCAAUAGUUUCUUUCCUCGCCAUUUGCGAAUGCGGCUUUCACAAAUUCCUUUGUUUUUAAAAACCAUUCUUUCGUCAUCUCUUUAUGACUAGGGUGACCGGUAUACAUCCACGCACGAUCACUCAUCUUGCGUAGCUACUAAAGACAGAAGAAAUAUAUUUAUAUAUAAUUCAUCAUCUAUAUUCAUCGGUUAAUCAUGUUCGCCAUUUUUAUUACGUCCAGGCAACCUACACGCUAAUAGGUAAAGAUAGGUCCUAAUCCCACUCGAGUAUGUGUAGACUGGGUUCGUUUUCCCAUGCUCUGCUCCGGAUCCAACGCAAAAUUUCGGCAGCACCUCCCCGCUGUUCUCUUGAUACACGUCUCCGCAAUAAACAGAGAGGAUGUGCAUCCGGAGAACAACAGGGAGGCAAUGACGAAAUUCCGCAUCGGAUCCAGAGCACAGCAUACGGGAAAACGAACCCAGUCUACACAUACUCGGGCUGUCCAUGGAUAAUGUUGGACAAUUCGAAAGGAUGGCGGUUAUAAAUAUGCAAAGACAUGCAUAUUUAUAGAUGUCGCCCUUUCGAAUGGGAGACGCAUACUGGUCACGCAUACUCAUGAUUGAAGAAACCUAUAGCUAGCAAGUUUCAUCGGCACGAAGACCGGGACAGAGCAAAUUAAGGGGGUAGGAGGAGAAGUCAUUUGUGCUCACCAACAAACGCAAGGGCGGAGCUCGUCCAACGCACGUGGAGGUCGUCGAACAACUGCACAUUGAAAUUCACCUGAUCAACACAAAUAUGAUGUUUUUAUAAUUAACAUAACUAUAUGACCUAACUCAUAACUAUGUGGGUCAGUGUCAUCGGGGGUCGAAGGUCACUGGCGUCGGGGAUUGGGGUCUUUUCGGUCAACAAGAGGCGGAAGAGGUGUCGGGGCUCGGGGGUUGGGGGUCAGUGGCGUCGGGGGNNNNNNNNNNNNNNNNNNNNNNNNNNNNNNNNNNNNNNNNNNNNNNNNNNNNNNNNNNNNNNNNNNNNNNNNNNNNNNNNNNNNNNNNNNNNNNNNNNNNAAGAAGAAGAGAUGAAGAAGAAGAGAAGGAGGAGGAGGAGGAGGAGGAGGAGAAGGCCUAUCCUUCUCCUCCUCCUCCUCCUCCUCCUCCUUCUUCUUCUUGAUUUCUUCUUCUUCUCCUCUUCCUCCUCUUUCUUCUUCUUCUCCUCCUCCUCUUUCUCCUCCUCCUCCUCUUUCUUCUUAUUCUCUUCCUCCUCUUUCUUCUCCUCCUCUUUCUUCUUCUUCUCUUCCUCCUCUUUCUUCUCCUCCUCUUUCUUCUUCUUCUCUUCCUCCUCUUUCUUCUUCUUCUCCUCCUCCUCUUUCUUCUUCUUCUUCUCCUCCUCUUUCUCCUCCUCCUCUUUCUUCUUCUCCUCUUCCUCCUCUUUCUUCUUCUUCUCCUCCUCCUCCUCUUUCUUCUCCUCUUUCAUAUUAUCCUUGCUUUAAUUAACCCAACAAUGACAUAAUUAGCCCAUUUAGCUCCAAAAUACCAUAAUAAGCUCAAAAUGGCAUAAGAACCUUGGUUAGCUCAUGAAUAUUAUAUACUUAGCUUGUUUUCCUCUAAAAUGACAUAAUUGGAAUAUUUAGCUCAAAAAGAAGGAGAAGGAAGAAUAAGAAGAAGAAGAGAAGAAGAAUAGAAGGAGAAGGAGAAGAAUAAGGAGGAGGAGGAGAAGAAGAAGAAGGAGGAGGAGAAGAAGAGAAGGAGGAGAAGGAGAAGGAGCCCUCCUUCUUCUCCUUCUUCUUCUCCCCUUCUUCUCCUCCUUCUUCUCCUUCUUCUUCUCUUCUUUUUUCUUCUUCUCCUUCUCCUUCUCCUUCCCCUUCCCCUCCUCCUCCUCCUCCUUGUUUUUCUUCUCCUUGUUCUCUUAUUGCUUCUUCUCUUUCUUCUUCAAUUUAGCUUAUUUGUCAUAUAUAUGUUGUUGUUGUUCUUCUACUUACUUUCUUAUUCCCAUUUUGUAGAUUGGAUGUACUACAUGCAUGGAAGCUGGCGUUGGAGUGCUUUAGUUUCCGUUUUUAUUUGAGUUGAUGAACAAUGUGUUGGUUCUUUGUAUGUGUUGAUGAACAAUAUAUGUGCAACUAUAUGUAUGUAUAUAUGGAUGAAACUUCGUAUGUGUUGGUUCUUUUGAUAUAUGGGAUGUACGUUGAUGAACAAAUGGCAUUGAUGAGCUUUAUAUGUAUAUAAUAUAUGUGUUGUGAUCUAUUUAUGAUAUAUGUGCUCUGAAUUAUAUGUAUAUGUAAUGUGAAAUAGAAAAAAUAANNNNNNNNNNNNNNNNNNNNNNNNNNNNNNNNNNNNNNNNNNNNNNNNNNNNNNNNNNNNNNNNNNNNNNNNNNNNNNNNNNNNNNNNNNNNNNNNNNNNAAUAACUUCUUUAAGCAUCCUGAUAGAGGUGUUGUGAUCAGCAUUACUAGUUGGGAUAGCUUCUACCCACUUAGUAACAUAAUCAACAACAACUAGGAUAUGAGUAUACCCGUUGGAUUUUGGAAAAGGUCCCAUAUAACCAAAGCCCAAACAUCAAAUGGUUUAAUGACAAGUGAAUAGUUCAUAGGCAUUUCCUGACGUUUACCGAUAUUACCUAUUCUUUGACAUUCGUCACAAGACAAGACAAACUUACGGGCGUCCUUGAAGAGAGUGGGCCAAUAGAAAGCUGAUUGCAAUACCGUGUGUGCAGUUCUGUCUCCCGCAUGGUGUCCUCCAUAAGCAUCGGAGUGACACUUCUGUAGGAUCUGUCCCUGUUCAUGUUCAGGUACACAACGUCUAAUAACACCAUCUACUCCUUCCUUAUAAAGGUGAGGAUCAUCCCAAAAGUAAUGUCUCAAAUCAAAGAAGAAUUUCUUCUUUUGCUGGUAUGUGAAACUAGGUGGUAUAUAUUUGGCAACGAUAUAAUUUGCAUAAUCAGCAUACCACGGUGCACUACGUGAAGUAUUGAUGACAUUCAAUUGCUCAUCAGGAAAGCUAUCAUCAAUAGGUUGUGGGUCAUCAAGAACAUUCUCCAACCUAGACAAGUUAUCUGCUACGGGGUUCUCAACACCCUUCGUGUCGAUAACAUGCAAAUCAAAUUCUUGCAGCAAGAGAACCCAUCUGAUAAGUCUAGGUUUAGCGUCUUUCUUUUCCAUGAGGUAUUUAAUAGCAGCGUGUUUAGUGUGAAUAGUGCCUUUGGAAUCAACUAUGUAAGGUCUUAACUUUUCACAGGCAAACACGACUGCUAAAAAUUCCUUUUCAUUAGUAGCAUAGUUCCUUUGGGAACUGUCUAGAUUUUUACUAGCAUAGUGAAUAACAUUCAAUUUCUUAUCAACUCUUUGUCCUAGGACAGCACCAACAGCAUAAUCACUAGCAUCACACAUGAUUUCAAAAGGUAAGUUCCAAUCAGGUGGUUGAACAAUAGGCGCAGUUAGCAAGGCCUUUUAAAGUAUUUCGAAGGCUUCCUCACAAUCGUCAUCAAAGCCAAAAGGAAUAUCCUUUUGCAAGAGAUUGGUAAGAGGCCUAGAAAUCGUAGAAAAGUCCUUAAUGAACCUUCUAUAGAAACCAGCAUGACCAAGGAAACUUNNNNNNNNNNACCUUUGAUAUCUGUAGGGCAUGGCAUUUUUUCGAUCGCAUCAACCUUAGCCUUAUCGACUUCAAUACCUCUUUCAGAAAUUUUAUGUCCUAAGACGAUGCCUUCAUUAACCAUAAAGUGGCACUUCUCCCAAUUCAAGACAAGGUAGGUAUCUUUACAUCUCUGCAAGACUCGAUCAAGGUUGCUGAGGCAAUCAUCAAAAGAAGACCCGUAAACGGAGAAGUCAUCCAUGAAAACCUCAACAAUCUUUUCACAAAAGUCAAAGAAUAUAGCCAUCAUACAUCUUUGAAAGGUAGCAGGUGCAUUACAUANNNNNNNNNNNNNNNNNNNNNNNNNNNNNNNNNNNNNNNNNNNNNNNNNNNNNNNNNNNNNNNNNNNNNNNNNNNNNNNNNNNNNNNNNNNNNNNNNNNNUAAAUCGGCAAGAGACAUCAUAGAACGCACCAUAUCCAGUAAAGUACGAUUACGACGUUCGAACACACCAUUACGCUAUGGUGUUCCAGGCGGUGUCAAUUGUGAAACAAUUCCACAUUGUCUUAAGUGAGUGCCAAACUCAUAACUCAAAUACUCUCCUCCUCGAUCAGGUCAUUGGAAUUUAAUCUUCUUUUUACGAAGAUUCUCAACUUCACUCUGAAAUUGACUAAACUUUUCAAACGUUUCAGACUUGUGUUUCAUUAAGUAAAUAUACCAGUAUCUACUUAAGUCAUUAGUGAAGGUGAGAAAAUUACAAUAUCCAAAGUGGGUCUCAAUGCUCAUCGGACCACACACAUCAGUUUGUAUGAUUUCCAUCAAGUCACUUGCCCGCUCCAUUAUUCUGGAAAAUAGGGUCUUAGUCAUCUUGCCCAUGAGGCAUGGUUCACAUGUGUCAAGUGAUUCAAAAUCAAGUGACUCCUAAAGUCCAUCAGCAUGGAGCUUCUUCAUGCAUUUUACACCAAUAUGACCUAAGCAGCAGUGCCACAAGAAAGUGGUACUAUUAUUAUUACUUUACAUAUUUUGGCAUCAAUUUUAUGAACAUGUGUGCUAUCACUUUCAAGAUUCUAUAAGAAUAAACCCCUCACAUUGGGUGCAUGCCCAUAAAAGAUAUNNNNNNNNNNAAAAGUCCAUCAGCAUGGAGCUUCUUCUUGCAUUUUACACCAAUAAGACCUAAGAAGCAGUGCCACAAGAAAGUGGUACUAUUAUUAUUAACUUUACAUAUUUUGGCAUCAAUUUUUGAACAUGUGUGCUAUCACUUUCAAGAGUCUAUAAGAAUAAACCCCUCACAUUGGGUGCAUGCCCAUAAAAGAUAUUACUCAUAUAAAUAGAACAACCGUUAUCCUAUGAUUUAAAAGAGUAACCGUCUCGCAAUAAACAAGAUCCAGAUAUGAUGUUCAUGCUCAACGCAUGCACUAAAUAACAAUUAUUCAGGUUUAUCACUAAUCCCGAUGGUAAUUAUAGUGAGAGCAUGCCAACGGCGAUCACAUCAACCUUGGAACCAUUUCGCAUGUGCAUCGUCACUUCGUCCAUCACCAACCUCCGUCUAUUCCGUAGUUCCUACUUUGAGUUGCAAAUGUGAGCAACUGAAUCAGUAUCAGAUACCCAGGCACUACAACGAGAGUUGGUGAGGUACACAUAAAUAACAUGUAUAUCAUAUAUACCUUGUUUGAUAUUGGCCGCCUUCUUGUCGGCCAGAUACUUGGGGUAGUUCCGCUGCCAGUGACCAGUCCCUUUGCAAUGAAAGCACUCAGUCUCUGGCUUGGAUCCAGCCUUGGGUUUCUUCACGGGAGGGGCAACUUCUUUUCCACUCUUCUUGGAGUUACUCUUCUUUCCCUUGCCAUUUUUCUUAAAACUUGUGGUUUUAUUGACCAUCAACACUUGAUGUUUCUUCCGAAUUUCUGACUCAGUGACUUUCAGCAUCGCAAGCAGCUCGGCAACUNNNNNNNNNNNNNNNNNNNNNNNNNNNNNNNNNNNNNNNNNNNNNNNNNNNNNNNNNNNNNNNNNNNNNNNNNNNNNNNNNNNNNNNNNNNNNNNNNNNNCUUCUAUCCUUCUCCUCCUCGUCCUCCUCCUCCUCCUUCUCCUCCUCCUCCUCCUCCUUCUUGAUUUCUUCUUCUUCUCCUACUCCUCCUAUUUCUUCUCCUCUUUCAUAUUAUCCUUGCUUUAAUUAACCCAACAAUGACAUAAUUAGCCCAUUUAGCUCCAAAAUACCAUAAUAAGCACAAAAUGGCAUAAGAACCUUGGUUAGCUCAUGAAUAUUAUAUACUUACCUUGUUUUCCUCUAAAAUGACAUAAUUGGAAUAUUUAGCUCAAAAAAGACAUAAUUAGGUAAUUUAGCUCCAACAAGAGGAGAAGAGGAGAAGAAAUAGGCAAAAUGAAAAGAAAGAAGAAGAAGAGAUGAAGAAGAAGAGAAGGAGGAGGAGGAGGAGGUGGAGAAGGCCCAGGACCUUCUAUCCUUCUCCUCCUCCUCCUCCUCCUUCUCCUCCUCCUCCUCCUUCUUCUUGAUNNNNNNNNNNNNNNCCUUCUAUCCUUCUCCUCCUCCUCCUCCUCCUCCUCCUUCUCCUCCUCCUCCUCCUUCUUCUUGAUUUCUUCUUCUUCUCCUCCUCCUCCUCUUUCUUNNNNNNNNNNNNNNNNNNNNNNNNNNNNNNNNNNNNNNNNNNNNNNNNNNNNNNNNNNNNNNNNNNNNNNNNNNNNNNNNNNNNNNNNNNNNNNNNNNNNGGCCCCCCCCAGAAAAAUGGGAUAUGAAUUUUUCGUCCAAAGAAAAUAAAAACUUCCUUAGACAACAAUGUUUGCAAUUCCAAGAUGCACCCUUGUACGCAAUAUUACAUCAUUUGAACAAACUAUGCCAUGAAUAUGGCCAUAAGAUUGAUCAUUUGGCUUGAAAGCCAUGAACCUUCACACCUGAUAACUCAUGUGUGAGAACACCAUUUUAAAAUAAUUUUCGUAUUAAAAGUUUAUUAUUUUUUCUGAUAACAUGGUCACAUAUAAUGACACAAUGCAAAGGUUUUCCAAUUUUGUGAUUUUUUUAAUAAAUUUCAUGCCCAUUUCAAUAGGCGGUCAAAACGACACGAAUGACCGUUCAUCGGUAGGGGUUCUAUCUUGAAAAAAAUUGGUGUUUUUCUGAUUAAAUAGAUACUUUUGUACAUAGAAAUAAUUUUUUGAAAAAAUAAAGUACAAAGUAUGAGGCAAUUGUAGUUCAAAUUUGACAAGCUUCCAUGUGAAUUGGCGGAAAUUUGUCUUUUUCGCGAGAGGUGGAUAAAAUCUUUUGACACCCAACCAUUUGGUCAAUUAUACAUUAAAUAUUGCCUAAUAGUUUUGAAAAUUGAUUUGGUCCAAUUUUACAACAAAUAUAUGGUAGGUCCUUCACAAAAAGAAUUGAUUUUGGGCACUCAAAAAAUGAAAAAUGAAUUAUUUCAUCCAAAGAAAAUGAAAACUUCCUUAGUCAACAUCGCGACACUAAAAAUGUGGUAUAAUUUUUUAAAAAUGGUGUAGUCCAAUUUUGCAAAAAAUAUUUAAUAUUUUCUGUAAUUUUUCCACCGAUUUGGGUAGAAAAAUCGUGUUUCGAGUUGGCCAAUGAGAGGCGAGAAAACUACCUUCAAGCGGAUCACCCAGUUGGACGCGAUCUGAGCCAUCGAUCAAAAUCCAUCCAAUGGCGAAGCCUCUCCUAAGAAAGCACAACCUAACCACCCACGCACCCACCCACCCUUCCUUAGUUUCCAGAUCCCAUCGAGCCGCCUCUUCAGAUCCCAUCGAUCCAUCGGCUCCUUCCUCCCCCUCCCUACCACCACCACCUCCGGCUACCACUCCACCCCAGCCCACCCCAUCUCACCUCCUUAGAGCAAGUCUAGUAGAACCCUCAAACCCUCAAAUCCUUAAAAAUAACCGUUUUUUUACAGUUUUCGUCGAAAAAACGGCGUAGACUAGAACCCUUAAACCCUUAAACCCGUAAAAAAAAUUAAAGGUCCAACCCGCAAACGCCAUCGCAGCCUGUAGAAGUGAGGGUUGGGAGGAGAAACUCCUCCCAACCCGCACUCCACUUCCUCUCCAGCGCGGGAGGGAUUUUCAUCCCGCUUCCGUCUCCAGCCGUCGCCUCCUCGCGCCCGCCUCGCCGCCAUGGAGACCNNNNNNNNNNNNNNNNNNNNNNNNNNNNNNNNNNNNNNNNNNNNNNNNNNNNNNNNNNNNNNNNNNNNNNNNNNNNNNNNNNNNNNNNNNNNNNNNNNNNNNNNNNNNNUCCUGUUCCAAUCCUUCUCCACCUCCAUACUUCUACCAUGGUGCCCUCGCGAGCUCUAGUGUACAUACUCUUCCUGGUUUUGCUAGAUAAGUAGAACAAAAUUAUUGGCACAGAGGCAAUUGAUACAUGCUCUGUGUAUGUGAGUUUCUAGCCAACUGAAUUUUUUUCAGGCAAGUCAUAACAGAUUUUGCUUCAGGUUUCAUGGUUUCAGGUUUCAUGACAGAUUUUGCCGUGUGCAAUUGAUACAUGCCCUGUGCAAUUAGUUGUUUCAGGUUUUGCCCUGUGCAAUUGAUACCGAUUUCAUGGCAGAUUUUGCUGCUAAGAAAUCAGUUACAAAUACAGGCUAGUAAAUAGAUUUUGCAUGAUAUGCUUACCUUGUAUUUUUCUUCAGAUUGCUGCUAAGAAAUAAGUUAGCAUGUAAUAAUUUGGUUUCAAAUUUUCAUGAUAUGCUUACCUUGUAUUUUGCUUCAGAUUAUCAUGAUCUUCCAAAGUUGCUAUUAUUUCACUUUACAUUUUAUCUCCAUUGUCAAAUGUUUACUCAUGAAUUAUGAUGUAUUAUUGUUUUAAUUUGCUCAAACAUUGUUGUAAUAAUUUGAAUGAUUAUUGUUUUAUUCGGUGGUGUAAUAAUAACUAGAAUGAUUAUUGUUUUAUGUCAAAUGUGAUUGAAUUUGUGAUAUGUCAUAUGAUGAAAUGUGAUGAAACGUGUGAUAUAUGAAAUGACAGUUUUAAGGGUUGGGGUUGGGACAAAGACUAGAACCCUCAAACCCAACCCUUAUAACGGAAUAUUCCGUUAUAAGGGUUGGGUUUGAGGGUUAUUCCGUUAUAAGGGUUGGGUUUGAGGGUUCUAGUCUUUGCCCUUGUUUUUCAACCCUUAAAAGUGUCAAAAAUGGCCAAUUCUCAACCCUUAAAACUGGUUUUAGAUUUAAGGGUUUGAGGGUUCUGCUAGAGAUGCUCUUACGCGCGCGCCGCUCGGCAAUAACCGGGANAAUAACCGGGACGGACAGCCCUCUGCGACGCUUUGGCUGCGCGCACACCUCCUGCAUACCGCUGUGACCGUGAGUCAUCCGUCGCAGCGAUCUAUCCAUGUCCACGUCGUCGUCGUGCUGAGUGGUUGGCGUUUGGGGUUUGGUCGUGCGCGCGCGGGAUCGCGGCAGUUCAUGAGGAGCGGUCACAGGGAGCCUGCGGAAGGGGGCGCUGGGGCUGCUGGGCUGCGUCGAUGAGGUGGUGGCGCCCCCCCCCCCCCGUCGUGGGGUCCUCGGUCGAGGCGGCGUUGUGGCUCACACAAUGGCGCAUUGAUGCGCUCCCCUGCUACACCUACCGCAAGUCCAACUUCUUCCGCAUUGGCCUCUAGAACUGGUUCGUCCCCAUGCCCCUUCUCCACCCCUUCUGCAAACUGUUGUCUUUCUUGUCCAGCAAAGCAUAGUGUAUCCUACCCGUGUGAUCCUUGUUACAACCGGGGAUCUUAGUGGUGGUGUUAUGAUUUCAGUCAUGGGUUUUCUUGUAGUGGCUUCAAGUGCAAAGAGAAUCAAUAGGAUGUUUCUGUUUAAAAAUGAUGGGGGGCACUUUUUUAAGUAAUAUAGAAAAACUGCAGUAUGAGAGAUAUCGCAAUAUCUUAAACCACAAUAAUUUUUUAAACCAAACAUCUCAAAGUAUUUAGUACCAAAGUUUUUUCAGAAACCAUAGUAUUCAAAUUGGUUAUGAUGUGAAGUACACACCAUCCAGUGAGCUAAUAAAAUCCUCGUAUUGCAGGUCUCGUGGUCUCGUGGCCUGAUGUCUUUUCCUUAUAUGGCAGGUCCAGGAGCAAUCGCACGUGGAGCUGGAGGUGAGGCUGCUCGAUGUCGUCGAGUUCUACACUCCGUCCAAACUGAAAGGUGUGAUAUUUCGCCCUACCCUUGCGCCCCGCGUCAAUUUUAGUGGUGGUUUGUAUGUUGUGUGCUCUAGCGGAUAGCAGUGACGCAUCUUGAGUGACUAGAUUGCCAUGUAUACUACACAAGUAGCUGUCUAGGAUCCCUUCUUUAUAUUAAAAUAUGUGAGAAUGAUCGACCACUUUGUGAAUACAUGAUGGCAUAGAGUAAAUACAUAGUUUUAGAUGAGCUGCCUAACCCUGCAGAACCCUUUAGCUCAUCGAUGUUGUGAAAAAAGGGCAAACCAUAUCUUGUAAUUUAGCUGCCUCAUAGUUCCAGUGUGAAAACUAUUUUAGGAGCAUUGUUUUACUAUUAGAUUAAAUUGCUACUCUUAAUGAUGAAUGGUUGAGUUUUUAAAUUUGAAGCGACACCUACUUCCUGGUCCUAUAGUAUUUAAAACUGUUAAUUAUGAUGCAUUGCUCCAUUGGCCUUGAUCUGAACCUCUCAAGUUUAUGUUUCCUGGUAUGCAGGUAACUUAUCAUUUUUAUUGGAAAGCCUCUAACGAAUUUAUUAGAAUUUUUCUUCUAUUGUCGUGUACAGUAUGUGAUAAACAUGUCUAUAUAACCGGGGAUGUAUAAUGUCGAAUUAUAAAAACCAUAAAUUCAAGCUUCUGUUGUAUCAUGCUCGAUAUAUACUAUUAUAGAAUAGUGUUCUACAAGAUGCAUCUUGAGUGACUAGAUUGGUGACGCAUCUUGAGUGACUAGAUUGCCAUGUAGUUGAAACACCAUGGUGUCAGUCAUUUGUGGGAAGUAGAAACACUAUGGCUUAUAUUUUUUACACUUCACUGUUUUAUUUGUUUUUUCUAAUUUGUUUUGUGGAUAGUAAAUUUGCAAUUGUAUGCCCUUUGUAAAAAAUGCAUUCUACGUUUCCAUGCCAUGUAAUGCUGAAGCACGUCUCUAUCUAUGAUAUUCUACACCACUGAAAGGCUGAUAUCUUGUAUAGAUUUGGCUUUUGGCAGGUAGUCCUUUUCCCUGCCACGUUUAGUUGCAUUGCUCUGAUGCCCAUGAAGGGUGAGAUCUUGGUCGGCACUAUGGAGAAGACCCUUGAAAGGUCCACUCGAAGCUAUCAAAGGGCACUUAUAGAGCUUGCGGCUGUGAUUACAUUUGUAGAGCUUGUGGUUGUGUUUACACUUGUAGAGCUUGUGGUUGUGAUCACCAUUGUAUCUAAGUUAUAUGUUGUAAUAGACUUAUUGUGGCUGUUAUUUGAAGUAUUAUGUGUUCUUUUUGUCUGUUUUGAAUUAAAUAUUGGUUAUUUAUUUGUUGGUGAAUUGAAAACAUGAAUCCUCAUACUAGAAGCUGACAAUCGGAACCCAUUUGUCUAUUGGACCCAUCUUCUGAAGAAAAAAAACUGGAACCAUUGAGCCAGAAAGGCCACGACCAAAAAAAGGCUGAAAUAUCGGGUGAGACCCAUGUAGCCGACCAGAAUGACAACAAAAAAUGAUAAUUAAAUGGGCUGAAUUGUUGGGCUCGGCCCAUAUGGACACCGAAUUGGACGUAAUUUUUCCACGCCAGCUUGCCACGUUGGAUUUGACGUGGCCUGGGCACACAACCAGUGACCAAAACAAUUGGUCGUAGAACCAACGACCUUUUCGUUUUGAUCAUUGCCUGCUACGACCAUUCCAGAAGAAAGGUUGUUAUAGUUCACUAGAGACGGUCCUCUUUUUACCAAUUGUUUUCGGUCAUAAAAAGGUCAUAAAUGGAAAACAACGACCAUUCAUUGACCAAUAUGAAAGGUCAAAAGUUGACAUAUUUCUUAUAGUGUGUGCGCGCAACUGGUCGCCGGUGGAUGGUUGAAGGGAAAGGGAUGAGAGGUGGAUGUGUGGUGGAAGACGAGGUCGCUGGCUGUGGGGCGAGAGCAGAGGGAGUGGAGUGGGUCAGUCUUCCACAUAUAGGAUUUUCUGUGCAAGGGAGUGAGACGAGGAGUGGAGAGAGUGAGACAGGGAGCGGNNNNNNNNNNNNNNNNNNNNNNNNNNNNNNNNNNNNNNNNNNNNNNNNNNNNNNNNNNNNNNNNNNNNNNNNNNNNNNNNNNNNNNNNNNNNNNNNNNNNGAGAGUUGCUAUGCACGUAUGAUUUCAUGUGGCACCCUCUAUUUUUUUUCAUUAGCAUGCAUGCAUCCAUGCCAUCUCAUUCCUUGGCUUACCUUUGAUUCUAUGUCAUGUUAUGUUUGCUUGUCAUGAUCAUGUGGGCAUAUGUGAUUACUAGGAGUUAGUGCUUGUGGUGUUAUGAUUGCAUGUGACCUUGCUAGGGUUUUUUUGUGGUAUUGCACUAGCUUGUGAUGCAUGUGUGUUUGGUGGUAUGUGGGUAGGAGUGAGUGCUAGAAUUUCAAAGGCUCUUAGCUAUUUUAAAUCCUUUUCCCUCCUAUUAUCUCAUGUCAAAAUUCCUUCUUCCCAAAAAUGAUUCAAAAAUGUCUAGNAGGUUAGAUUAAAUUGUGUUUAUGAGGUGGGGUAUUUUUGCGGACUUGUUAUUUGAAUUUUAAAGGUGCAAAUAAACCCAAAACGGUAAAUUAAUUUCUGUUUUGCAUUUAUUUCUAUGGCGCCAAAUAUUGCUUUUCUAUUUUUUUUCUAAUGGGCCAUAAUUCCUUAUGACCAGGGGAUUUUUCCUUUUAAGUUUAUACCCACCAGCUUAUUCGUUUUAUNNNNNNNNNNNNNNNNNNNNNNNNNNNNNNNNNNNNNNNNNNNNNNNNNNNNNNNNNNNNNNNNNNNNNNNNNNNNNNNNNNNNNNNNNNNNNNNNNNNNGCAAAAAUAGAAUCAGGGGCUGCUGGGAUUCGAACCCAGACCCCUGGUGUCCAGCAACAGCAACACUCCACUGCGCUGCUGCACUAGUUGUUGACAAGAGAAGAGAAAAAUGGCAAGGUAAGGUGACUGCAGGCCCAUUGAUACGAAUAAAUCACCCAAAACAACAAAAGGCGCCGAGGGGGGACUCGAACCCACGCCCUCCUACAGGCGCAAGCAUAUGACAGAGCAACACUACCAUCGGGCUACGGAUCGAAGACUGGCUAAGACAAGGAGGUAAAAUAGAAAACCCACCCCACUCACGAGAAGAACUCCGCCGGCGGCCGGACCCGAGGGAGCUGGCGGCGCCACUCCCGGCCACCACCGGUAGGGGAAGCUAUCGGCGGGGGCCGCGGGAACCUCAGGGGCUCCAUUCCCGCCCUGAGCACGGGAAAAGGCCUCCCCUUGGCUGCCCGGAACUGCAUCGGCGUUCCCUGCCGCCACCACUGCUAAGACUGCGCCGGUGAUAGAGAGCUCUGGCGCGCCACCCUGCUGACCCUGCUACGCUGCUAGGCUACACGUCGAUCUGCUACCAACACCCUGCUACACCACUACGCCUCGCCUCUCCACUCGACAACGCACGCACGAGCUCGGCACAGAAGAGCCGCUACUACUGCUCCUCUAUCAUGCUGCUGCUAACGAACAGAGGAAGCACGCGCCCGACGGGACCGAGCCGAUCCGCGGCGGAGGAAGGACGGGGGAGGACGCGGCCUCACCUUGGGAGAAGAUGGGGCGCCGAACGGGGAGGAGGAGCGCCGAACCGGGGAAGAAGACGUCGAAGAAGCUCCUCCGACGUAGACCGAAGCAGGGAAGGAGUUCGCCCGGUUCGCCCCGUUGACGAGGACGAGCUCGACGGGGGGGGGGUCUCUCCUCGGGGUCCUAACGCCGGGAAUGGGACGCGGGGAGCCGCCCCGAGCCCCCGGACAUGGCGGCCGUGCCGCCCGACGAUGCCCGCGGGUAGACGCCGGCGACUCUCUCUCUCUGCACCCUCUGCUAGCUACAGGAAGCUCACCUGGGAGGAAAGGAAUAGAUGGAGAUGGGGUUGGGAGAGGUGGCGGCGGCGGCUGAGGGGAGAAGAGGAACCCUAGGCUACGGGCACGGACGCCAACGCAUCUUAUAGGGGGUCCUCCACGUGCUGCUCACGGCGCCGUCAGGUCUCUCUCUCUCACACGUGCUGACGGAAAGAAGAAAGCGAGGGAGGAGAGGUAGCGCCGUCAGGAAGGAGGGGGUCGCUCGCCUGGGCUCUCGCUGGAGGGAGAUACAUGGGCCAGCAAGUGGAGGGAAGCCCACUGGCGGCCACUAUAAGAAAGGCCCCAGCAGCCUCUCCCAAAUAAAAGAAACACAAAGAAGNNNNNNNNNNNNNNNNNNNNNNNNNNNNNNNNNNNNNNNNNNNNNNNNNNNNNNNNNNNNNNNNNNNNNNNNNNNNNNNNNNNNNNNNNNNNNNNNNNNNGAUUUUCCAAACCUCAAUCAAGCGUCUGUGGAAGAUAGCCCUAUAAGAUACUACCAGAUAUCCCACCUAUGAAUUCCCGAAAUAACUGGUCAUGCAAUCAGGCACCCGGAUACAAGGAGUAUUUCACACAACUCCUAAACUAACCCGUCACCUGUAUCACACCCUUCAACACACGACCAGCAUCUCGGACCUUCGUCUACCACAGAUCCUCGUGAUCACCACGAUACAAAGUGUGGUAGUACCCGCGAACAAUCUACACCAGUACUGGGGACGUCGGGGUUAUCUCACCACUACCCGUAUUGAAGCAAUAACGAACACCCUCUGUUCUUAGGUACUCAGAAAUCUGAAUGAUGGCGAUGUGCGCGAUAAUCCCUGGAGCUCAACUCCCCUGAAACUUAGAGCAGAUAGGAGGCACCAGGACAUGAUUCCGUCACAUCGAAAUCAUAUAGAUUUCGCAAACACCCGCGUGAUCCUAAAAAAAUUUUGAGCGAGAAAAGGAGUAGAGUUAAAGGUUUCCUAAGACGGAAGCCUCACGAGAGCAAAGAAGAGGAGAAAAAUGAAACCUACUCUCCGAUAUAACUAAGACUCAAAACACUUACUAGACUCGACUCGGCCAAAUACGAUCACACAAAGGCUCCUAUGGUCGUAAGGCUCUGAUGACCAACUUGUAACGACCAAGAUGCGGUCCUUUCCGAUCUGGGGGUCGAGGCCCCCGAAUAGGAAAGAAGCGCAUCUAAGUGUUUUGCAAACAAGUAAACAUAGCACAUAAUAAUAAAUAUAGUAGACAAUCUGGGAUUCACUGUCUUCUUAUUAAUAAUACAGAGUACAACGCAGAUACAAACAAGGUAGUUACGGUACGGACUACAAAACAAGGAAAAUGCUAUGCUACCCGCUGCAGGUCCACGAUCACGACCACGGCUCAGUCCUCUGGAUAGUUCACGUAAAGGCGAUCUGUCUCCUCGUCGUACUGCCACGCCAGCUGGGUGCCAUCGGGAUCAUCGGUCUCUGGGGUACCUGUACCUGUUGGAAGUUUCGGAGGAAUCCGUGAGCCACGGGGACUCAGCAAUCUAAGACCUUGGUGCCAGAACUAGUCAUGUUAUUGGGUAAGGAAGGGAUGAAGUGUUUCAGGCUGCUGCAACCUAUGAUUGAAUAAGUGGCUAACUUACUCGAGAAGGAAGUGAAAGUGGUCUACGCUAACGAUCGAGAAUACUUGAUCAGAAAGUGAUCCUGAACACCUACCUACGGCAUUCAUAACCCCACCGUGUUCCGGAUCGAAGAGAGGUCUUCGAGGGGACAGUCACGGUUACUCACACAGUUGGCAUUUUUAUUAGUUUAGGUUUAAGUUCUCUAAUACCGGAUGUUGACAAAAUAUUCCAAGUUGCCACAUAACCACGGGCACGGCUUUCCGAAAGAUUAAACCCUGUAGGGGUGCUCCAACUAGUCCAUCACAAACGAACACAGGCCGCAAAGGCAUCCUCUAUCACGAAUCUCGUGAUCUCGUCGGAUUCCUUAGAAGAAAAUCUCAACUCUGGGGAAAACCAAAGCUUCACCGGGAUUCCUAUACGCAAGAUAUACCGCUAAGGCAAGACAAGACUAGCAGGACCUCCCGACGUGUCGACGACCCCGAUAAGAGCCGCGUAUCUCAGUCUCAGGACACGCCGGAUGGAACUAGCUACAGGUGCAAAACCUCAAGUUUCCUUGUGGUGGCCCCGCAGGCAGACCAGUUUGGACCAACACUCAUGAGGAGCACUGGCCCGGGUUGUUGAUUAGAAUCCUCGGGGUAGCUAUUCCCUAUGCAGUUUAUUAUUAAGUGAUUAGCAAAUAGUACCAAUGUUGGGUCCUGCUGGACAAGCCUUAACACUACGCGAUUUAUCAAGGGGGUCCCCAUAACAAUCCCGAACAUGUUAGGAGCGAUCAUUAUGGAAUCAAACACCGGUAACCGGUAACUAAGGCGGCAAUAACGGAACAAGACACCCGGGAAAAGGCUAGGCCUCCCGUCAUUUACCAAGUAUAUAGAUACAUUAAUUAAAUAACAGAAAUUAAAAUAAUGAUAUCAAGCUCAUGUCAUCACAUGAGUUAAGGCACCUGCAGCUAACAACGCUAACAUUAGUAGCUGAGCAAGCCUACCUAGCCAUGCAAGGUUGCUAGGAAAGAGUAAGGUGUUUAGGCUCAUGGCAUAUGAAGAGGCAAUAUAUUUUCAGUGGUAGGCAGCGAGCAAUAUGACGUGGGAUCGAAACUAACAUAACAAGUCUAGAUAUGGGAUCAAGGUCAUGUCAUCUUGCGUGUGAUAUUCUCAGCUUGGAAUGGUUCUUGAUCGUCCUGCACGUACUCUCCUGACUCCACGUAUUCGUUCUCCGGUUCUAACCAACACAAGAAUAACAGCCAAUGAAAAGAGGCACCACAAAAGGCAACAAUCACAUGAUGCAUGAGAUGAAAGUUGAGCAUGCACUACUAUUUCCAUCACUAGCACAAGCACAAUAAACUACAACAAGUUCCUGGGCAGAACUUUGCACUACCUUAUCUGGACAUGCAUGGGAAUGAUAUGAACAGUUGCAUCUCGUAAGAACGGUGCAAAACCAUAUAAAGAACUUUGCAAACGGAGCUACGGAUCAACGGGAAUCAACGUAACACGAUAUGAAGCUCUACGUGAAAGAUUCAACACCUCACACACAUUUGGCACAAAUCUGGUGUUCCCGGGUUGCCAAGACAUAUAUUAACCCAACAUGAAUGAAAUGAAGCAAGUUAGAACACCCCAACAACAAUUAAACACAAACUUUGAACAAAAAGGCAAAACUACGUAAUCUGCCAGUUUCUGCAUCUUAGCUGUUUGUGAGCAACAUGCAACAUAGCUACAGGUCUUCAAAUAUGACAAAUAAUAUAUGUGGCUGUUGCCAACCAAGAACACUACAAGCUCCAACAAGAAUCACAGAAAAAGGAAUUAACCUCUAGAAGAUACAAGGCCACAAACUUUCCCAAAACCAUCAGUUCUCAGGGACUUUGUGAAAAUUCCUGUACCUGAGAUUCUGUUUCUGUUCUGAAGCUUUUUUACAGGAAUCUAAACACAAGCUACUGGACUCCAAAUGACUUGAAAAUUGACAGGAAGCUUCACCAUCAUACCAGGUUCAAAACACUAGCACUGAACUAAGUCCAGUUCUCAACAGAAUGACCAGCACCUCCUUAUCUACAGGGGAAGAAAAUGUUUCCAGCAUUCCAGACUUAGUGAAAUUUUCAGAGUUCAAAAAUCUGGAAUUUUCCAGCCACAUGCCCACUUUGUCUAGGCAUAGUUUGCACACACAUGUUCCCAAGAGGUGAUUGACACCACUAUGGUGUUGGGCACAAACCCCUACUACUAACACACAAAGAUCCAUACCCUUGGGCUCCAUCUAUACCAUGGGAACAAAGCCCAAACUUUCAACAAAAUGUAAAUGCAAAUCCAAAAGGUAUUCUACUAAGAUGACAAUUACCUAGGAGGGUUUCAUGUGCACAAUGACAAAGUGACAUGGGGGUUUGAACCCCAUGUUUGUGUCAUGCACAUCAACAACACCCACACCCAUAUCCCAAAGUUAUUAGACCAAACACAUCACAAUGGGACCCUAGGCUAUCAAGAGAGUAUGCACACCUCCACAUAUAGGCAUGUGAUGGUGCACACUCUCACAUGCAUUACUAGGCUCACCCUAGUAAUCAUGUCAUACUCAAGGAGCAACCCCCACAACAUUCUACUCUAGCUUAUCUAGUAAGCUCCACCUUCACAUGCUAUCUUAGUUGGCCAACUAGAACAUCACUCCACACCAAAACAUGUGAUGAGGGGGAGGCACCCACACCCCACUAAAUCAAUGCAAACAAAUAAAACUACAAGAUCACUUAGCCCACACCAAAGUUCAAAAGUUGGGGCUAUACAAGAGUAGCUAGUGCCUCUUAUCACCUCAAAGCACAACACACACAAUUGUCAAGGCAUCUAACAUCAUCCACCUAUCAAGGUUAACUCCACUUCACUAAGGUGCACCCACCAUAGACAUCACAAGUAUAGCAAGAUCAUACAUCACCUCUUAGUGUGCAAAACACACACAUAACUAAAUCUACCCUAACUAUAUUAGCAGGAACAAAAAUACAACACCACUGUGUAAAGAGUUAGUUAACAGUAGAAAUAACAAAACUAACAAACCACUUUGUAUAGGAGUUAGGGGAACAGAAAUUAAAUAGGCAGGAAAAGAAAAGAAAGCAAAAAUAGAAUCAGGGGCUGCUGGGAUUCGAACCCAGACCCCUGGUGUCCAGCAACAGCAACACUCCACUGCGCUGCUGCACUAGUUGUUGACAAGAGAAGAGAAAAAUGGCAAGGUAAGGUGACUGCAGGCCCAUUGAUACGAAUAAAUCACCCAAAACAACAAAAGGCGCCGAGGGGGGACUCGAACCCACGCCCUCCUACAGGCGCAAGCAUAUGACAGAGCAACACUACCAUCGGGCUACGGAUCGAAGACUGGCUAAGACAAGGAGGUAAAAUAGAAAACCCACCCCACUCACGAGAAGAACUCCGCCGGCGGCCGGACCCGAGGGAGCUGGCGGCGCCACUCCCGGCCACCACCGGCAGGGGAAACUAUCAGCGGGGGCCCCGGGAUCCUCAGGGGCUCCAUUCCCGCCCUGAGCACGGGAAAAGGCAUCCCCUUGGCUGCCCGGAACUGCAUCGGCGUUCCCUGCCGCCACCGCUGCUAAGACUGCGCGGCGACAGAGAGCUCUGGCGCGCCCCUGCUGACCCUGCUACGCUGCUAGGCUACACGUCGAUUUGCUACCAACACCCUGCUACACCACUACGCCUCGCCUCUCCACUCGACAACGCACGCACGAGCUCGGCACAGAAGAGCCGCUACUACUGCUCCUCUAUCAUGCUGCUGCUAACGAACAGAGGAAGCACGCGCCCGACGGGACCGAGCCGAUCCGCGGCGGAGGAAGGACGGGGGAGGACGCGGCCUCACCUUGGGAGAAGAUGGGGCGCCGAACGGGGAGGAGGAGCGCCGAACCGGGGAAGAAGACGUCGAAGAAGCUCCUCCGACGUAGACCGAAGCAGGGAAGGAGUUCGCCCGGUUCGCCCCGUUGACGAGGACGAGCUCGACAGGGGGGGGUCGCUCCUCGGGGUCCUAACGCCGGGAAUGGGACGCGGGGAGCCGCCCCGAGCCCCCGGACAUGGCGGCCGUGCCGCCCGACGAUGCCCGCGGGUAGACGCCGGCGACUCUCUCUCUCUGCACCCUCUGCUAGCUACAGGAAGCUCACCUGGGAGGAAAGGAAUAGAUGGAGAUGGGGUUGGGAGAGGUGGCGGCGGCGGCUGAGGGGAGAAGAGGAACCCUAGGCUACGGGCACGGACGCCAACGCAUCUUAUAGGGGGUCCUCAACGUGCUGCUCACGGCGCCGUCAGGUCUCUCUCUCUCACACGUGCUGACGGAAAGAAGAAAGCGAGGGAGGAGAGGUAGCGCCGUCAGGAAGGAGGGGGUCGCUCGCCUGGGCUCUCGCUGGAGGGAGAUACAUGGGCCAGCAAGUGGAGGGAAGCCCACUGGCGGCCACUAUAAGAAAGGCCCCAGCAGCCUCUCCCAAAUAAAAGAAACACAAAGAAGGAAAAGAAAUAAAACGAAUAAGCUGGUGGGUAUAAACUUAAAAGGAAAACUCCCCUGGUCAUAAGGAAUUAUGGCCCAUUAGAAAAAAUAGAAAAGCAAUAUUUGGCGCCAUAGAAAUAAAUGCAAAACAGAAAUUAAUUUACUGUUUUGGGUUUAUUUGCACCUUUAAAAUUCAAAUAACAAGUCCGCAAAAAUACCCCACCUCAUAAACACAAUUUAAUCUAACCUCCAGACAUUUUUGAAUCAUUUUUGGGAAGAAGGAAUUUUGACAUGAGAUAAUAGGAGGGAAAAGGAUUUAAAAUAGCUAAGAGCCUUUGAAAUUCUAGCACUCACUCCUACCCACAUACCACCAAACACACAUGCAUCACAAGCUAGUGCAAUACCACAAAAAAACCCUAGCAAGGUCACAUGCAAUCAUAACACCACAAGCACUAACUCCUAGUAAUCACAUAUGCCCACAUGAUCAUGACAAGCAAACAUAACAUGACAUAGAAUCAAAGGUAAGCCAAGGAAUGAGAUGGCAUGGAUGCAUGCAUGCUAAUGAAAAAAAAUAGAGGGUGCCACAUGAAAUCAUACGUGCAUAGCAACUCUCGUGGCAAAGUCAAGGUGGUCCCACAUGUAAGGUUACAAAAAGGGAAAAACCUACACUUGGGGCAUUACAAUGGGCCUGUUGUCUGCACGAAGGGGCAGCAGCCGGACAGAUAUCGGAACAAAUCUGACCGGCCAACUGGGCUUCAAAUAAAUCUGGCCGGCCUGCAUCUACAUUGUACUAAACAGCCUGAGGAAGCUGUCGACACAGUUUAUUACGACCUAGUGGCCAACCCUUUGGUUUAAUUAACAGAACCAAUCCAGUUUGUGGAACAGAAAUCCUUCUUUACACCAAAAUCUUCUAUUCUGUGUUGUUUCAGAAAUGAACUCUGAAUUCUGCAAGAGAUUGACACGGGUGUUUGCGCUGCUAAUACUAAUGCAGCUUUUUUGUUUUGCUCUCUUUAUUCAAUCUGAUACUGAAAGCCAGCUCCUGACCGUGCCAUCCCCCCCCCCCAAAUAGUUAUGACAUAUAGUUUGUGUUUAUAUUAAGUCUAUGAUCAAACUUUAACUCCAGGAUGUCUUAUCUGUACCACUAUAUAGUGUAUCAGUUUUGAAUGGAUCCAAAUCAUGAAUCCUGAUCGUUGAUAUCCUCAAUCUCCCACUUGCCUAUUUCAUCAUCGCAGGAUCAGUAGAGUUGGGCCAAUGGACUUAAGUCAAAAUUCUAUAUUGAACGUUGGGUACCUCCAUGGCAAGAGAAGGAUAUAGAGAAGAGACAGCAGAGCCGACCUGCUCAGCCAACUUUAAGUUUUAUUCUACAUCAUUACAUUGAGAAAGAACACCGAUUUACAACUAUGUUGACUAGCUAGCUACUAGCUUAUAGUCCAUAAGAUUUACAUGUAAGUAUUGAGAGCUUCGAUACGUGCCAUCCCUCCAUGCGCUCAAACUUGCAAGUGGCAUGUAUUCCAAUAACUAUCUGCCUAUGUAUGAAUCCUGGUAGGGAUGUGACAUUGACAUAGUGCAUAAUAUUAGAAAUUUUCAAUCAUAUGCAUGAAUAUAUGCAUUAUAUUCAUCUACGUGUCAUCUCUCUAAUGACUCCAUCGUAAGGAGCUAGCCCAUACAUGGCGUAACAAAGCAGUAUCAUGAGUAGUGGUAUGGUCAUGGAAUUUUUUGUUUUGCGGGGUCGUGGAAAUUUCUGGUGCGCUCCAGAGAGAAAUCACCCCCGUAGGACCAAAAUAAUAGCACUACCUUCGGUCUUGAGUUUCUGGAGAUGCAAUGGGCACUUGAUCCAACCUGCUCCAUAGUCAAAAUCAAUCAGGUUAGUUGUUGCAUCUCUUUUAACGAUUUACUUCAGUUUGUACUAACCCCUGCUUCAACAUGGAUAGUGGGACGUCAGCCGGGGAGGGAACUGGCGGUGCUGGAGGGAGGCCCGACCUGUGGUUCGACCUACACUCCCGCUUGGUGGCGAACGGAGACAGGCAGGGAGGGAGGCCUACCCUCCCGCCAUGUCACGCAGACGGACGACGGCGGCGUCAGCCGGGAGGGCACUGGCGGGAGGCCCGACCGGAGGUGUGGUGGAGGGAAGCCCGAUCGGAGGUGGCCUACCCUCCCGCCAUGUCGCGCAGACGGAAGAGGGCUGCCGGGGAGGGCACCGGCGACGGCGGCUGUGAACCCUAGAUAUUUUCACCAGAGGGAGGGAACCACCAGUCGGGAGAGCGAGGGGCUGGUGCACUCGUUGGUUUUUUUUAUCCGGUGUGUUCUUUUUCCACUCGCGGGAGGUAGGCCACCUGUGUUUUUAGUCUUUGACGUCUUCAUAACGACGUAUCUCACGGCAAAGAUUAAUUUUUGCCGCCUUCUCUUGCUAAUCCAAGACGGCAAAACUGCCUGCCGUUUGGGUGAGUUAACAGGAACGUGGACAUCUUUGUUUGCAGUCAUCCAUAGGAUAAGUGUUGGAAUUAUGCCCUAGAGGCAAUAAUAAAUAUAGUUAUUAUUAUAAUUCCUGUAUCAAGAUAAUCGUUUAUUAUCCAUGCUAUAAUUGUACUGAAUGAAGACUCAUUUACAUGCGUGCAUACAUAGACAAAACACUGUCCCUAGCAAGCCUCUAGUUGGGUAGCCAGUUGAUCAACGAUAGUCAGUGUCUUCUGAUUAUGAACAAGGUGUUGUUGCUUGAUAACUGGAUCACGUCAUUAGGAGAAUCACGUGAUGGACUAGACCCAAAUUAAUAGACGUAGCAUGUUGAUCGUGUCAUUUUAUUGCUACUGUUUUCUGCGUGUCAAGUAUUUAUUCCUAUGACCAUGAGAUCAUAUAACUUACUAACACCGGAGGAAUACUUUGUGUGUAUCAAACGUCGCAACAUAACUGGGUGACUAUAAAGAUGCUCUACAGGUAUCUCCGAAGGUGUUCGUUAAGUUAGUAUGGAUCGAGACUGGGAUUUGUCACUCCGUGUGACGGAGAGGUAUCUCGGGGCCCACUCGGUAAUACAACAUCAGACACAAGCCUUGCAAGCAAUGUGACUUAAUGUAAGUUGCGGGAUCUUGUAUUACGGAACGAGUAAAGAGACUUGCCGGUAAACGAGAUUGAAAUAGGUAUACGGAUACUGACGAUCGAAUCUCGGGCAAGUAACAUACCGAAGGACAAAGGGAAUGACAUACGGGAUUAUAUGAAUCCUUGACACUGAGGUUCAAACGAUAAUAUCUUCGUAGAAUAUGUAGGAUCCAAUAUGGGCAUCCAGGUCCCGCUAUUGGAUAUUGACCGAGGAGUCUCUCGGGUCAUGUCUACAUAGUUCUCGAACCCGUAGGGUCUGCACACUUAAGGUUCGACGUUAUUUUAUGCGUAUUUGAGUUAUAUGGUUGGUUACCGAAUGUUGUUCGGAGUCCCGGAUGAGAUCACGGACGUCACGAGGGUUUCCGGAAUGGUCCGGAAACGAAGAUUUAUAUAUAGGAUGAUCUCAUUUGAUUACCGGAAGGUUUUCGGAGUUACCGGGAAUGUAUCGGGAAUGACGAAUGGGUUCCGGGAGUUCACCGGGGGGGGGGGGCAAGCCACCCCGGGGAAGCCCAUAGGCCUUGGGGUUGGCGCACCAGCCCUUAGUGGGCUGGUGGGACAGCCCAAGAAGGCCAUAUGCGCAUUGGAAAGAAAAUCAAAGAGGAAAGGGAAAAAAAAGGAGGUGGGAAAGGGAAGAAGGACUCCACCUUCCAAACCAAGUAGAAUUCGGUUUGGGAGGGGGAGGCCUUCCCCCUUGGCUCGGCCGACCCCCUUGGGAGUCCGUGGACCCCAAGGCAGGUCUUCCCCCUCCUCCUCCUAUAUAUAGUGGGGUUUUAGGGCUGAUUUGACACAACUUUGCCACGGCAGCCCGACCACAUAUCUCCACGGUUUCACCUCUAGAUCGCGUUUCUGCGGAGCUCGGGCGGAGCCCUGCUGAGACAAGAUCAUCACCAACCUCGGAGUGCCAUCACGCUGCCGGAGAACUCUUCUACCUCUCCGUCUCUCUUGCUGGAUCAAGAAGGCCGAGAUCAUCGUCGAGCUGUACGUGUGCUGAACGCGGAGGUGCCGUCCGUUCGGCACUAGACCAUGGGACUGUUCGCGGGGCGGAUCGAGGGACGUGAAGACGUUCCACUACAUCAACCGCGUUCACUAAACGCUUCUGCUGUACGGUCUACAAGGGUACGUAGAUCACACAUCCCCUCUCGUAGAUGGACAUCACCAUGAUAGGUCUUCAUGCGCGUAGGAAAUUUUUUGUUUCCCAUGCGACGUUCCCCAACAAUAAGUAGACAGCAAAAAUCCUGCCUUUGCCGUCAUCUACCCAUAUAGUUAAAGGCAAAACUAUUUUUUGCCGUGUGGUUUUUUUGCCGUCUGCUUUUCAUGAUUUUUGGUGAUAGUAGCUCUUUGCCAUCUUCCCAUGACGGCAAAUUUCCCAUUUGCCGUCUGCCCCGACGAUUUGCUGACGGCAAAGAUUGUACCUAUCAUCAAAAUAGCUGAUUCCUGUAGUGUACGUGUAAGGUCGGUCCGGGCCGCUUCAUCCCACUAUACCGCCGGAAAAUAAUAAGACUAGUAGUGGCAAGAAAUUGACAAAUCAUUGCCCACAACCUUUUGUGUUCUACUCGUGCAUAGAAUCUACGCAUAGAAAACCUGGCUCGGAUGCCACUGUAGGGAAACGUAGCAUAAAUUAAAAAAAGUUCCUACGCAUAUUCAGAUCUUCCUAUGGAGAGACGAGCAACGAGAGAGGGGUGAGUGCAUCUUCGUACCUUUGAAGAUCGCUAAGCGGAAGCGUUGCUAGAACGCGGUUGAUGGAGUCGUACUCACGGCGAUUGAGAUCACGGUGUGAUUUCGAUCUAGUGCCGAACCACGGCACCUCCGCGUUCAACACACGUGCAGCCCGGUGACGUCUCCUGCACCUUGAUCCAGCAAGGAGGAGGGAGAGGUUGGGGAAGAUCUCCGGCAGCACGACAACAUGGUGUCGAUGGAGAGACGAGGUCUCCCGGCAGGGCUUCGCCAAGCACCGUGGGAGAGGAGGAAGAAGGGGGGCAGGGCUGCGCCGAGGGAGAUGGAAAACCGUGUGCAAAACAGCCCCAAAACCCCCACUAUAUAUAGGAGGAGGGGAGGGGGGUGCCACCCCUAAGUUCCCACCCCAGAUGGGAGGUGCGGCGGCCAAGGCAGGGGGAGGGGGUGGCGCACCCCUAGGUGGGCCUUAGGACCACCAGCGCCUAGGGUUUCCCCCCCUCUCCACCUCCUGCGCCUUGGGCCUCCUUGUGGGAGGCGCACCAGCCUACUUUAGGCUGGUUUCCCUCCCUCUUUUGGCCCAUGCUACCUCUUGGCGCUGGUGGCCCCUCCCAGUGGACCCCCGGGACCAUUUCCGGUUGUCCCGAUGGUCCCGGUACAUUACCGGUGACGCCCGAAACAUUUCUGGUGUCCAAAACCAUCCAUCCUAUAUAUCAAUAUUUACCUCCGGACCAUUCCGGAGCUCCUCGUGACGUCCGGGAUCUCAUCCGUGACUCCGAACAACUUUCGGUAACCUCGUAUAACAAUUCCCUAUAACCCUAGCGUCAUCGAACCUUAAGUGUGUAGACCCUACGGGUUUGGGAGACAGGCAGACAUGACCGAGACACCUCUCCGGCCAAUAACCAUUAGCGGGGUCUGGAUAUCCAUGGCGGCUCCUACUUUCUCCACGAUGAUCUCAUCGGAUGAACCACGAUGUCAAGGAUUCAAUCAAUCCCGUAUACAAUUCCCUUUGUGUGUCUGUAUAGAACUUGCCCGAGAUUCGAUCAUCGGUAUACCUAUACCUUGUUCAAUCUUGUUACCGGUAAGUCUCUUUAGUCGUUCCGUAGCACGUCAUCGUGUGACUAACUCCUUAGUCACAUUGAGCUCAUGAUGAUGUGCUACCGAGUGGGCCCAGAGAUACUUGUCCGUCACGCGGAGUGACAAAUCCCAAUCUCGAUUCGUACCAACCCAACAGACACUUUCAGAGGUACCCGUAGUGCACCUUUAUAGUCACCCACUUACGUUGUGAUGUUUGAUACACCCAAAGCACUCCUACGGUAUCCGGGAGUUGCACAAUCUCACGGUCGAAGGAAAAUACACUUGACAUUAGAAAAGCUUUAGCAUACGAACAAAACGAUCUAGUUCUAUGCUUAGGAUUGGGUCUUGUCCAUCAGAUCAUUCUCCCAAUGAUGUGAUCCCGUUAUCAAUGACAUCUAAUGCCCAUGACCAGGAAACCAUGAUCAUCUAUUGACUAAUGAGCUAGCCAACUAGAGGCUUGCUAGGGACACAUUGUGAUCUAUUUAUUCACACAUGUAUUACUGUUUCCUGUUAAUACAAUUAUAGCAUGAACAAUAGACGAUUAUCAUGAACAAGGAAAUAUGAUAAUAACCAUUUUAUUAUUGCCUCUAGGGCAUAUUUCCAACACAAAGAUCCACCGGAGGGGAUGGGCCGGUGGGCCACAAGCCCUGUAGCCGCCACCUCCUGGUGGCGGCUAGCAAGCUUGUGGGGCCCAUGUGGCUCUGCCGCCCCCAAUCUCAGCUCUAUAAAUUCACUUUCGUCCCAGAAAAAAAUAAAAAGAGAAGAUUUCAUCGCGGUUGCAAUACGAAGGCGCCGGCACAUCCUGUUCUUCAUCUGGAGGGCAGAUCUGGAGUCCGUUUUGGGCUCUAGAGAGGGGAAAUCAUUGCCAUCGUCAUCAUCAACCUUCUUCCCUCUCCAAUUCCAUGAAGCUCUUCGUCGUUCGUAAGUAAUCUAUUUGUAGGCUCGCAGGGCGGUGAUGAGUAGGAUGAGAUCUAUCAUGUAAUCGAGUUAGUUUUGAUGGGGAUUGAUCCCUAGUAUCCACUAUGUUCUGAGAUUGAUGUUGCUACUACUUUGCCAUGCUUAAUGCUUGUCACUAGGGCCCGAGUGCCAUGAUUUUAGAUCUGAAAUUAUGAUGUUGUCACCAAUAUAUGUGUGUUUUAGAUCCGAUCUUGCAAGUUGUAGUUACCUACUAUGUGUUAUGAUCCGGCAACCCCGGAGUGACAAUAACCGGAACCACUCCCGGUGAUGACCAUAGUUUGAGGAGUUCAUGUGUUCACCAAGUGCUAAUGCGUUGGUCCGGUUCUUUAUUAAAAGGAGAACCUUAAUAUCCCGUAGUUUCCUUUUGGACCCCGCUGCCACAGGAGGGAUGGACAAUAGAUGUCAUGCGAGUUCGUUUCCCUAAGCACGUAUGUCGACACAGGGAAUGCAUGCCUACAUCACAUUGACGAACGGGAGCUAGCCACAUAUCUCUCCGUGUUAUAACUGUUGCAUGAUGAAUAUCAUCCAAACAAAUCACCGACCCAUUGCCUACAAGUUUGUCCCACUGCUGCUGUUACUUGUUUUCCACUGCUGCUGUUACUUGUUUUGCUCUGCUGUUACUUGCUACUGUUGCUACUUGCUACUGCUAUUACUUGCUACUGUUGCCGCUGCUGUUACUUGCUCUGUUGCUACUUUGUUGUUGAUACUUUGCUUGCAGAUACUAAUCUUUCAGGUGUGGUUGAAUAUGACACAUUCAGCUGCUAAUACUUGAGAGUAUCCUCUCACUUCCUAUUGGCGAACCAACAAAUUUGGGUUGAAUACUCUACCCUCGAAAACUGCCUCGAUCCCACGCGCUCGUGGGUUAUUGCAAGACAAUUUCUAAUUGAUGAGCAAUCGAGAAUAGCAGUCGUCUAGCCAUUGCCAGAGACUGUGAGUCAGUGACGUACGAACUUAUUUCGAUGACCAACACAAAACUUUCCAUAUAUCUAUCUUUACCUUCGGACCAUUCCGUAGCUCCUUGUGAUGUCCAUGAUCUCAUACGAGACUCCGAACAACCUUCACUCACCAACAUACAUAACUCAAUAAUACCAAAAGGUCACCGAACCUUAAGUGUGCAGAACUGAUACGUCUCCAACGUAUCUAUAAUUUUUGAUGGUUCCAUGCUAUUAUCUUGUCAACUUUGGGUGUUUUGUAUGCAUGAAUAUGCUAUUUUAUAUCUUUUUUGGGACUAACCUAUUAACUCAGUGCCAAGUGCCAGUUCCUAUUUUUUCCGUGUUUUUGACCUUUUUCAGAGGAGAAUAUUAAAUGGAGUCCAAACGGAAUGAAACCUGCGGAAUGAUUUUUUCCAUAACAGAAGACACGCAGGAGACUUGAGAACCAAGGCACGGGACCUCAGAGGAGGUCACAAGCCACCCAGGCCCGGCCUAGGGGGCGUGGCGGGCCUCGCAGGCUUGUGGCCCCCCUGUGGCUCCCCUGCCCUAGUUCUUCCGCCUAUAAAUUCCCUAAAAAUCUGAAAACACGGAAGAGAGCCACGAAAAUACUUUUCCGCCGCCGCAAGCUUCUGUCUCCGCAAGAUCCCAUCUAGGGCACGCUCUGGUGCCCUGCCGGAGGGGGGAUUCAGACACGUAGGGCUUCUUCAUCAACACCAAUGCCUCACUGAUGAUGCGUGAGUAGUUCACCAUAGACCUUCGGGUACAUAGCUAGUAGCUAGAUGGCUUCUUCUCUCUCUUGGAUCUUCAAUACAAAGUUCUCCAUGAUCUUCAUGGAGAUCUAUCCGAUGCAAUCUUUUUUUGCGGUGUGUUGGUCGAGAUCCGAUGAAUUGUGGAUUUAUGAUCAGAUUACCUAUGAAUGUUAUUUGAGUCUCCUCUGAUCUCUUAUAUGCAUGAUUUCGUAUCCUUGUAAUUCUCUUCGAGUUGUGGGUUUCGUUUGGCCAACUUGAUCUAUAAUUCUUGCAAUGGGAGAAAUGCUUGCUUUUGGGUUCAUACCGUGCAGUGACCUCUCCCAGUGGCAGAAGGGGUAGCGAGGCACGUAUCGUGUUGUUGCCAUCAAGGGUAAAAAGAUGGGGUUUAUAUCUAUUGCAUGAGUUUAUCCCUCUACAUCAUGUCAUCUUUCUUAAGGCGUUACUCCAUUUGUCAUGAACUUAAUACACUAGAUGCAUGCUGGAUAGCGGCCGAUGUGUGGAGUAAUAGUAGUAGAUGCAGAAAGUAUCGGUCUACUUCUCUCGGAUGUUGUCGUGGGUAUAAGUCUGACAGUAGAUCUAUAGGGUCCGAAAGGAUGGGCACAACCUUAGCUACGGCGAGGUUGUAUGAGUUCAGGCCCCUCUACGGUGGAGGUAAAAGCCCUACGUCUCAGUGCUCUUGGGAGCUUGAUGUCGAGUGGAAUAUGGAUUACAGUGAAUUCCCAACCCCUGCACCAGUACGGAAGGGCGGCUUAUAUAGAGUGCGCUGCCCUCCAUAACGGUUCGAUGCACAGGGGUGGAGUAGUGGCGAAUAAAUGCCUACGUUACAGGUAACGUAUGCCCUAAAUGCUAAUAAAGGUACAUGAAAACGUAUGACCGUUGUCCUCCACGGGGGUUACGAUAUACAUAGUGGAAUCCAGUCGGUAAGCUUGAUACUCUCCGAAUGCACGUCUCCGACUGGAUGAUGGAGGGAUCGUCACCGACCGGAUGAUGGGAAGUCUUUAAUUCAGUCGAAACUGACUAAGGUCCUUGUCCCUUAUGAAGGGUAGUCCUGGGGUAGGACCUAUAGGGCAGGCCUAUGACCCUACCCUGGGACUAUAACCCCAUCAUUAGUCCCCGAAUGGAUCGGGGUUGGAACGACGAGGCGAUGCUUGGGGUACGGAUCCGACUGGUAUGGAUGCAGCUUUGGCGUUGCUUGCCUCGAUCGAUUUUAUCCUCUUGACCAGUGAUCCGAGUGGAUCUGUCUGUGAAACGAACCGUUAGAGACCGAGUGCUUCCGCCGAAUCUUCGGACGUGACCGGUCAACUAACAGCGGCGGAUUUUCUGGGAUCCUCAAAUUUCGGUUGCCGCGCGCUCAGCGGGGAUGACGACAUCGUCAUCGAGUAGUUUCUGCCACGUCGAUUACCGCGCCUUCAUCUCCUCCACUAAUAUCGCAGCAACCGGUCGGGGGAUAAGAUUUUGGGGCCACCUGCUAGUGACCCAGUUGGUACCUUAUUUAAACCUCCCCAGUGAGGGUUUCUCAUUGCGCUCGCCUGAUAACUCGCACUCGCCCCGCUUCUCCCGUUGCUCCCUGUGCACUCCACGCCUCCUCCUUCCUCUCCUCCCCUGCGGAUCUGCAGCCUCCACCAUGACGAAGGGGCAGACGAGCAAGCUCGAGUCGUAGAAGAAGAAGAAGAAGGUGGCGGCUCCUGCUCAGCGGCGACAGCGUGCUCUGCCGGCGGGUUGGAUCCAGGGGGAUUUUCUCCCCUCCACGGUGACGAAGGAUGACCUGCUGGAGCUGGUGGAGCAAGGUUUGAUCAAAAACAAGUCGUGGAGGCUACCGGCGGAGGGCGAGACGGAGCCAGUGCCCCAGGAGGGGGAGCGCGUCUUGCUGCUCAGUCACGUGUACCGAGGCUUCUCUGUGCCUCCUCACCCCUUCUUCAGAGGUAUCAUGAACCACUUCGGGGCACAGCUCCACCAUUUUCCUCCCAACGCAAUAGCUCAUCUUUCUGCCUUCGUCGUGCUUUGCGAGUGCUUUAUCGGUUGUCCUCCCCAUUGGGGGCUCUUUAAGUACAUCUUCUCUGCUAGAUCCCAAACUGUCAAAAGACUUAGCCAGUCGGAUGAUAAAACCCAUCUCCUCCAGCUCUGCGGGGGCUUAGGCUUCCAAAAGAAAACGAAGAGUAGCUAUCCCGCUCUCCAGUUGUCCGAGUCUGUUAGGAACUGGCAGUCGACUUGGUUCUAUUGCCAGGACGUUGCUUGCCCGAAUGCCGCGACUGGACUGCCAGCUUUAAGCCUAGACCGACCGGCUCCGCCCAGGCAGCUUGCACUCACGAAGAUGGAGAAGAUCCAGAUUCAGCCUCUGGUCGAAGCACUGAUAGAUGUCAUCCGCAAGGGAGUCACCGACAUGGAUCUGCUGGAGAUUUUUCUGGGUCGGCGCAUCCAGCCUUUGCAAGCUCAACACCAUGCCAUGUGGCACUGCACGGGGCCUGCGGACUCCACUCGGACUCACCCCGAAUGCAUGACCGGGGAGGUCAUGACAUCGUGGGUCCGCAGCAUCACAGGCGCCUGUGAUAACCCCAGAGGAGCCCGACGAGUGAAGCCCUUCCGCGCUGACAACCCUCCUCCGAAUGAGGUGAGCAUAUGUUGCCGAGUGCUUACAAUUCCCUUAGAUUUGCCGCUUUUUUCUUGCAUCACUGUCUGACGUCUGAUGUUGUCAACUGUAUCUAGUGCAGGCGUGGACCAACUGGUAUUCUCCCGUCUCGAAUGGGAAUCCGGCUGAGGAAGAGGAAGGCAGCCAGGAGGGCAGCAUGGAGAGCGCCGAGUACGUCUCCCACAGUGGGGAGACGGAGGAGGAGUCCGAAGAGGAGGAGGGGGAAGAUGGGGAGCAGGGCUGGCCCCCCCCCCACCACUAGAGCCUCGAACCAAGCGUUGCCACGAACCCGUGACUGCGUCGGCUUCUCUAGCGGCCCUGAGUGCCCCGCCAGCGCCCGUGACUCCGUCGGCUCCUCCAGCGGCCCCGAGUGCCCCGCCAGCUCGUCCCGUGGUUCCGAGCGCCUUGGCAGAAACUCCCGUGGUUCCGAGUGCUCGGAGCACUAAGAGGAACAGGGACGCUGCUGCUGAGUCCGCGGGCCAACCUUCCAAGGUGGCCAAACCGAGUGGAUCCAAGCCUCGGAAGGCUUUGCCUCGGAUGAGGAUCGCCGUUCCUGUUGCCUCAGCGUAAGUGUCUUGUUCUCCUAUCUUCUUUCAGUAUUUGAUUGAACUCAUGUUUAUUGGUCCAGUGGAUUUUACUCGACAGAGCUGCUACCUCCGCCACUUCUCUGCCACGCCAGGAAGACUAUCCCAUGGAUACGGACAACGUUGCCACAUCCCAGCAAGGUACGUCGUGAUGACUCCGAGAGCUUAAAUUAUUGUUUCGAGAAUUCUGUCUUUGAUAUUGCCAUUUUUCUGUGGUCUCACGUUGUUCAGUCGGGCUCCCUUCAGAGGUGAUUCAUCUGGAGGAAGACGACCAGAAGGGGUCUGGGCAAGCUUUGGUGCAUGUCCUUGAGGUCGUUCCGUCUGCUACCGCUCCUGCCAUGGACGCGCCGCCAACCGAGACGAUGCCGUCGACUGAAACGGUGCUCAUCGCUGCUGAACCGACUAGAGCAGGACUUGGGAUGCCCAAGGAGUCUCCCGUGGUGCCGGGCCCGUCGACUAUCCAGUACGACGCCCAACAUCUCCCGGAGGAUCAAGUGGGAGCUGCCAAGGAGGCUAUGGUGCGGGUGGAGUUGAUGGCGGGUGAUGCGAAGGGGGCAUACGACUCCAUCACAUCUUUAUACAAGAGAAGCUUGGAGCUCCGUGACGAUAUCCGAGUAAGUGCGCUAGUAAGUAUUUGCUUUUCUCUUGUAACCCACUGGGGGUUAAGAAAUAUACUCGGAGAUAGUAGAAUUAUUUUGCAGUGGGUUCACUCUGAGUGAACCGAGUGGGUGUAGUCCCCGAGACUUCUGUCGAGUGCUUGCACCGGUAGUUGUCUUUAUAUACAUUGUCUUUGACUUGAUAUGAUGAAGACUAAGCUGUCCGAAUGGUGCCAGUGGGUGCACUCUCAGUGCACGUACUGGAAGUAGUCCCCGAGAGUAAGUUUACUCAGGUCGGGUAGUAGUAGCCUCAUAGGCUUGUUUUUUGUUAUGUAGCUGAAUAGGGUAGACCUGUUUGAGCGUCAUGCCAGUGGGGUCACUCUUAGUGAACCCACUAGGUGUAGUCCCCGAGACCGCUGUCGACUGCUUGCGUCGCCAGGGGUCUGAAGAACUUUGAGGUUUUAUUCUUUUUCCUUGUUGAAUUUGUCUGAUCUUCUCUUCACGCUUAUUUGUAGAAGACUUGCAAGAUGGGAUCAGCGUACAACGCUUUGAAGGUUGAAAAGACUCAGGCAGCUGUGCAUGACUUAGCUGGCGUGAUGGGUGCUCUUGCUGAAGGAGAGAAGUCCUUGGAGGAGUCCCGUGAGGCAAAUAAGGCAUUGGUGGCCGAAAUUGAGAGAAUGGGCAAACAAAGAACCGAGCUGAUGGGACAGAUGAAGGUGAUGAACAGUCGGUGCAUAUCACAGGAGAAGUACGUCAGUGACUGGGCAAGGAAGAUGAUUGCGCUUCUCGGUGGUAAGUUUUGUUUUUCCGAUUGCUCCUUGACUUUGUAUUUCGUGAUGCACUUACUCUCUGCUCGUCUUCUCUUUGCAGAUUUUUGUAUGGACGCUGAGGCUGAAGCAGCUGACAUUGAGCGGUCAGUUAUUCCGAACGUUCCACUCGGCAACGACGCCAAUCGAGACAUGCUCCGAGCGCACAUUCACCUUGGCAAAGUGGGACCGUUCAUCAGCCGCCUGAGAGAAGUCGUCGGCCGAAUCGACAAGGAGCUGUGGCCCGAAGACGAGUCCCGGUGGGAGAUAGAAGGGUUGAUGACUCGGCUGGAGGACGUCCCGAACCGAGUGCAGGCGUGGAAGAAGUCUGCUGCUCGCUGUGGGGUGGACGUGGCGCUGUCGCUGGUCUGAGUGCACUGCAAGGAAGCUCGCGAAGAGAAGCUGAAGGCGUUGCAGGUCGCCAACACCAAGAAGCUUCGAUUGGAAGAUUUCAUGGAGACCUUCCUUGAGACCGCUACUCGCAUCGCAGACGGGAUCGACCUCGACACUUUCGUGGAGCCUGCCAGUCCCAGUGUCAGUCCUGACGACACUUGAAAAACUUAACCUCGGUAUACCGAGUGGAUUUGUAUCAAACUUUGGCCACUGCAGUUGGCCGUCACAUUCGUGGUUCGGUGUGGAUAAGCUUGAUCUACACUGAACCGACUAUCGUUGAACCAACUUUGAAUUGGAAUCGAAUAUUCUGCUCUUCCUUCGCCAAAAAAAUCUUGACACAAUUUUGGCUCGUGAUUUCUGUUUGGCGUUUCUUGGUGAAGCCAGUGGCAAACAUGCGAAGCAUGUAGUUGUCAUUUGUCUUGACAUCUGCAUGAGCCUCAAUGAGGGUCUGCUAAGCCUCCGAGUGGAUCUGGAGGAUACACUCGAAGGAAUCUUUUUACUUAGGCGAUUCUGGAUCGCAGCUAGGUCUCCGAGUGCGGCGUCUCGUGCGCACUCGUAGCGAGUUGAUACUCAUGUAGUUGUCAGUUGUCUUGACAUCCACAUGAGUCUCAAUGAGGGUCUGCUAAGCCUCUGAGUGGAUCUCGAGGAUACACUCGAAGGAAGCUUUUUACUUAGGCGAUUCUGUAUCGCAGCUAAGUCUCCGAGUGCGGCAUCUCGUGCGCACUCGGAGGGAGUUGGUACUCAUGUAGUUGUCAGUUGUCUUGACAUCCACAUGAGCCUUGAUGAGGGUUUGCUAAACCUCCGAGUGGAUAUCGAGGAUACACUCGAAGGAAGCUUUUUUACUUAGGCGAUUCUGGAUUGCAGCUAAGUCCCCGAGUGCGGCAUCUCGUGCGCACUCCGAGCGAGUUGAUACUCGUGUAGUUGUCAGUUGUCUUAACAUCCACAUGAUCCUCGAUGAGGGUCUGCUAAGCCUUCGAGUGGAUCUCUAGGAUACACUCGAAGGAAUCUUUUUUACUUAGGCGAUUCUGGAUCGCAGCUAAGUCCCCGAGUGCGGCAUUUAGUGCACACUCGGAGAAAGUUAGUACCUAGGCGAUUCUGGAUCGCAGCUAAGUCUCCGAGUGUGACGUUUAGUGCACACUCGGAGAAAGUUUUUUUUAGAUCGGGGUCUGCCCACGCGAAAGAAUUUUGAAUCUGCAAAAAAUCAAUCUGCUUUGUAUUACUUCAGCGAUACUUGUUCUUUACAUUGCUUCAGUCGACGGUCACGUGUAGAAGCGCUUCAGGAGAUCUCCGUUCCAUGCUCGUGGCUCGUCCGUUUCCCUGUCGAGGUUGUAGAGUCGAUAUGCACCGUUGUUCAGCACCUUGGAGAUGAUGAAGGGUCCUUCCCACGCGAGAGCCAGCUUGUGAGGUCUCUGCUGAUCCACUCGGAGCACCAGGUCGCCUGCUUGGAAUGUACGACUCCUGACGUCCCGCGUGUGAAAACGCCGCAGAUCUUGUUGAUAAAUGGUUGAGCGAGUCAGUGCCAUCUCGCGCUCCUCUUCUAGAAGAUCCACUCCGUCUUGCCUCGCUUGCUCUGCUUCGGCUUCGGAGAAGAGUUUGACUCGUGGAGCGUUGUGAAGCAAGUCACUCGGAAGGACUGCCUCUGCUCCGUAAACGAGGAAGAACGGGAUCGCCCUGUAGAUCUAUUUGGGGUUGUGCGGAGACCCCACAACACUGAAGGCGGCUCGGUGACCCAUGCGUCGGCAGCAUGUCCCACUUCUCGCAAGAGUCGAGGCUUCAACCCUUGAAGAAUAAGUCCAUUCGCUCGCUCUACUUGCCCGUUUGUUUGGGGAUGCGCCACAGAUGCAAAAUCCACUCGGAUACCUUGGCUUGUACAGAAACCUUUGAAUCUGUCCGAGUCAAAGUUUGUGCCGUUAUCAGUGAUUAUGCUGUGCGGUACCCCGAAUCUGGAUAUGAUGUCCCUGACAACCUUGAUGGCCGUAAGGGCGUCGAGCUUCUUGAUGGGUUUGGCUUCAAUCCACUUGGUGAACUUGUCGACUACCACCAACAGAUGAGUGAAACCUCCUUGGCCUAUCCUAAAUGGACCGACUGUAUCUAAACCCCACACUGCAAACGGCCAAACAAGAGGGAUUGUCUUCAACGCAGAUGUUGGCUUGUGGGACUUGUUCGAGUAGAACUGACAGCUUUCACAUCGGUCGACCAUAUCCUUCGCCAUUUCGUUCGCGUGCAACCAGAAGAAGCCAGCCCUGAAUGCUUUGGCGACGAUUGCCCUUGAGGAGGCAUGAUGACCGCAGGUUCCUGAGUGAAUUUCUUCCAGGAUUAACUGUCCCUUCUCAGGGGAGAUGCAUCGUUGAAGGAUGCCAGAAACACUUUCUUUGUACAGCUGGCCAUCAAUGACGGUGAACGACUUCGACCUGCGGACGAUCUGUCUGGCUUGGAUUUCGUCUUCUGGUAAUUCUUGCCUCAGGAUGUACGCAAUGAACGGCACAGUCCAAUCGGGGAUGAUAGCAAGAAUCUCCAUGAUCAAAUCAACCACAGCAGGGACUUCGACUUCAGUCAGAUCUAUCGAGCUCUUUGGUUGUACUGGUUCCUCUGUGAAAGGAUCUUCUUUAACCGAGGGAAGGUGACGGUGCUCGAGGCAGACGUCACUCGGGACUGGCUCCGAGUGGAUCCAAGUUUCGCCAAUUCGUCAGCUGCUUGGUUUUUCAGUCACGGAACAUGGUGGAGUUCUAGACCUUCAAACUUUUUCUCGAGCUUCCUCACCGCGUUGCAGUAUGUGGUCAUGGUGGGUUUCCUUACGUCCCACUCCUUCAUCACUUGAUUAACCACCAAAUCUGAAUCGCCAUAGACCAUGAGGCGACGGACGCCGAGUGCGAUGGCCAUGCGCAAUCCAUAAAGGAGAGGUUCAUAUUCUGUCUCGUUGUUGGAGGAAUCGAAGUGUAUUUGCAACACAUACUUGAGUUUGUCUCCUUUUGGCGAUAUGAUCACAACGCCAGCGCCGGAGCCGUUUAACAUCUUGGACCCAUCGAAGAACAUUGUCCAAUGAGCCGAGUAGAUGUGAGUCGGUUGUUGUUGUUCUACCCAUUCUGCUAUGAAGUCAGCCAAAGCUUGAGACUUUAUAGCUUUCUUGGCAUCAACUUGAUGUCGCAGUACAACAUCUCCAUUGCCCAAUUCACCACUCGGCCCGAUGCGUCCCGAUUGUGGAGGAUUUCCGACAAUGGAGCAUCAGAAAUGACGGACACCGAGUGGUCUUGGAAAUAAUGAGCCACCUUCUUCGCAGUCAUGUAAAUCCCGUAAAUGAGUUUUUGAUGAUGGGGAUACCUCUGCUUGGAAGGAGUCAGGACUUCGGAGACAUGGUACAUUGGCCGUUGAACCAUGUAUGCUUUGCCUUCUUCUUCGCGUUCGACUGGGAGAACAGUGCUGACGACUUGAUUUGUAGCCGCGAUGUACAGAAGAAGGGGUUCUUUACUGAGCGGAGCAGUAAGAACCGGGUGGGUGGAAAGUAGGACUUUGAGGUCGUCGAAUGCGAUAUGAGCUUCCUCUGUCCACUCGAAAGUAUCUGAUUUCUUCAUGAGUCGGUACAAAGGUAGCGCCUUCUCGCCGAGUCGACUGAUAAACCUUCUCAAAGCCGCUAGGCAACCUGUGAGCCUUUGAACAUCGUGUAUUCUGACCGGCCGCUCCAUUCGGACGAUGGUCCCGAUCUUUUCGGGGUUGACAUCGAUCCCUCGUUCGAAAACGAAGAAACCGAGUAACUUUCCGCUAGGAACACCGAAUGAACACUUGGCCGGGUUGAGCUUGAUAUCGUACCUACGAAGGGUGGCGAAUGUUUCUGCCAAGUCAGUCAGCAGGUCGGAACCUUUGCGUGACUUGACUACGAUAUCAUCCAUAUACGCUUCCACAUUUCGACCGAUCUGGUCAAGGAGGCAUUUUUGGAUCAUGCGCAUAAAGGUUGCUCCUGCAUUCUUCAAACCGAAUGGCAUAGUGAUGUAGCAAAAGCACCCGAAUGGGGUGAUGAAGGCUGUUUUUAAUUCAUCGGGGCCAUACAGACGGAUCUGAUGAUAGCCCGAGUAGGCAUCUAGAAAUGACAAACGCUCGCUACCCGCAGUCGAAUCGACAAUUUGAUCGAUGCGGGGGAGCGGGAAAUGGUCUUUCGGGCAGACCUUAUUGAGAUGCUUGAAGUCGAUGCACAUUCGGAGAGACUUGUCCUUCUUGGGUACCAUGACAACAUGGGCGAGCCACUCGGAGUGGUGUACCUCGCGAGUGAAGUUGGCUGCCAAAAUCUUAGCCACCUCCUCUCCGAUGGCCUUCCUCAUAUGCGCGGCGGACCGACGCAGGCGUUCUCGGACAGGCUGAGCAGCAGGAUCCACGUGCAGUCGGUGCUCAGCCAACUCCCUGGGUACACCUGGCAUGUCAGCGGGCUUCCAUGCGAAAAUGUCUGAGUUCUCACGGAGGAAUUGGAUGAGCUCGACUUCCUAUUUUGGAUCGAGGGUGGUGGAGAUGUUCCUCGGGGCAGCGGCUUCGUCCGUCGGGUGAAUGCUGACCUUCUUCGUUUCUCCCGCCGACUGGAAUGCGGAAUCCGAAGCUGGCUUCUUCGAACGCAUCAAGUCAGCGGGGUCGAUUAACUUCUUGUAGUCGUCAAGCUCGAGGACAGCCAUCUGCUGAUUGGCGAUCCUCGAUCCCUGCUGGAGACACUCCUCGGCCCGCUACCGAUUGCCUGUGAUAGUGAUCACGCCUUUUGGGCCUGGCAUCUUCAGCUUUAGGUACACGUAACAUGGACGGGCCGUGAAACGCGCAUACGCCGGGCGGCCCAGAAUCGCGUGGUAUGCACUCUGGAAGUCCACCACCUCGAAUGUCAGCUUUUCCUUGCGGAAGUUCUUGUCGGAGCCGAAGACGACGUCCAACGCAAUCUCACCGAGUGACUUGGCCGUUCGUCCAGGGACGACUCCAUGGAACUGCAUGCUGCUCUCACUAAGUUUGGACAUCGGAAUGCCCAUCCCCUUGAGAGUGUCGGCGUACAUGAUGUUCAAGCCGCUGCCGCCGUCCAUGAGGACUUUGCGCAGUCGGACUCCUUCCACCACCGGGUCGAUGACCAGCGCCUACCUCCCUGGGGUGGGUACGGGCGCUGGAUGAUCCGACUGGUCAAAGGUGAUCGCAGUCUGAGACCAUUGGAGGAACGUGGGGUUGGUUGGGUGGCCAUGUUCACCUCCCUGUUCACCAGCUUCAGUCGACUCUUGCUUUCCACGUCAGCAAAAAUCAUCAGUGUUGCAUGGACUUGGGGGAACGGAUCCUCCUUGUCCUCCUCAUCUUGCUCAUUGUCCUUUUCACUCGGUUGCCCUUCCCCGAUCCCCUGGAUCAGGAGGCGACAUUGCCGAGUGGUAUGCUUCGGAAAUAUGGCGUUGCCUUCUUCAUCCAUCUUCAUGUGGAUUGGACAUGGCUGGUCCAGGAUGUGGUUUCCGAACUGCUUCUUCUUGGGGGUGAACUGAGCCUUCCCCUUGCCCUUGAACUUGGCAUUGGUAACGGCUGCGGCCUCUGCCUACGGAGUGGACGGAGCUUUCUGCUUCUGCUUCCGAGUGUUGUUCCCAUCUCCAUCGGCGACUGCCUUGUGCUUGCUGCUGCGAAUGCGGUCCUCUUCUUCGCCAUUAGCACAGCGUGCCGCUAUCUCCAUCAUCUUGCUCAUGGAGAUGUCGCCUGUCCGACCGAACUUCAGGUACAGAUCUCCGUACCGCACGCCUGCCUUGAAGGCGCAGACUGCUUGGUGCUCUGUGACGUUCUCCACCGUGUGGUAGAGGGUUGUCCAACGCUGGAUGAAAUCGCGCAGGGGCUCAUUCUGCUUCUCGACACAGUGCUGGAGCUCCACAAGAUCAGCAGGGCGUUUGCACGUCCCCUCGAAGGUCCUGAAGAAGACUCGGGCCAGAUCUGCCCAACUAUAGAUGCUUGAAGGAGCCAGCUGGUUCAGCCACGCUCGUGCCGAGCCAUCGAGCAUCAGGGGGAGAUGUUUCAUGGCGACAUGGUCGUCUCCACCUCCGAUCUGGACUGCCACUCGGUAGUCGUCCGGCCACGUUUCUGGCUUGGAUUCUCCUAUAAACUUGCUGGUCCCCGUCGCCAAUCGGAAGUUGGGAGGGAUGUCAGCUGAACGGAUGGCCCAACUGAAACACUCGGGGCCAGAGAAGAUGGUCCUGCUUCCACUCGGAUGGUCUCCAUCGUGACCAUCACGGUGGGCUCGGCCCCUGUCGACCCUCCUCUGGGCGAUGUAUCCUCUUGCGUCGGGCCUUGGAUCAUAAGUGUGACCGACCGAACGCCGAUCAUCAAGAUGUCGGGGCCCGUAGGGCCCACCCCAUGGAGGGGUGCGUGAACGGCGACGAUCUUCGGGACUCAUGGAACAGCUGCCUCCCCUGUGUCGUUGAUGAGAACCGGGGCUGAAUACUGACCGAUGCAUGUUCGCGUGAACAGAACUGUUGUGGAUUCUGUUGUGCGACUGGGAGACCGCCGAAUUCUGCUGCUGCGCCGUGUGCAACAGGGCACGAAUCUGCUCGAUCCCUCUGCGAGCCUCUGAAUCAGUCGGCUGGAGGGAGUCGGCUAUCUUGGAGGCGGCGUCCAGGUUGAGGACGGGUGUGCGGAACACCUCCACGUUGCUUUGACGAGUGCGCCGACUGGCAGAACGGCGGGGCUGACGGCGAGCGCCAGAUAUUUCGCCGACCUCGUGCUCGUUCCGGCCGGUUUGGCGGGGACUUUCAUGGGAGUUGGCCAUGUGCACUUCGGCUGCAGGCCCGCGAUCCAAGUACUCGGAAUGCAACUAAGUCAGAACUGAGUCCGAGCGCUGGGACGGCGGCGCAACUACAACCGAUUUGAGGACCGCCACGUGUGUAGACGCGUUCUGGCGCGCCUGGGCGUGUUGCACCCAACGCUGGAGCCGCGGACGGCGAGACCGCUUGUUGCGGUGCGUGACGGGGGCGAAGAUCGACACCCGAGCCGACUGCGGGAGAAGAAGGAUGCCGUGGGCGCCGGCACAGAAGUGCGUAGCCCCGCGACUGGGGAGCGCCUCGACGUCGAGAGGUGCAUCCCGAAGCCAUGCCGAAUCGUCGACAAUGAAGGAGAGUGCGCCGAAGAGGAUCUCACAACCCAUGCACGAAUCUCCACCGGACGACAUGCCGAAAGGAUGUAGUCGCAAACUCACCGGAAGUCGCAUAGACGCCUGCCCCACGGUGGGCGCCAACUGUCGUGGGUAUAAGUCUGACAGUAGAUGUAUAGGGUACGAAAGGAUGGGCGGAGUCUUAGCUAUGGCGAGGUUGUAUGAGUUCAGGCCCCUCUACGGUGGAGGUAAAAGCCCUACGUCUCAGUGCUCUUGGGAGCUUGAUGUCGAGUGGAAUAUGGAUUACAGUGAAUUGCCAACCCCUGCACCAGUACGGAAGGGCGGCUUAUAUAGAGUGUGCUGCCCUCCAUAACGGUUCGAUGCACAGGGGUGGAGUAGUGGCGAAUAAAUGCCUACGUUACAGGUAACGUAUGCCCUAAAUGCUAAUAAAGGUACAUGAAAAUGUAUGACCAUUCUCCUCCAGGGGGGUUACGAUAUACAGAGUGGAAUCCAGUCGGUAAGCUUGAUACCCUCCGAAUGCACGUCUCCGACUGGAUGAUGGAGGGAUCGUCACCGACCGGAUGAUGGGAAGUCCUUAAUUCAGUCGAAACUAACUAAGGGCCUUGUCCCUUAUGAAGGGUAGUCCUGGGGUAGGACCUAUAGGGCAGGCCUAUGACCCUACACUGGGACUAUAACCCCAUCAGACGUGAUGCCUAUAUGUAUGAUCAUUGCCUUAGAUAUCGUCAUUACUUUGCGCGGUUCUAUCAAUUGCUCGACAGUAAUUCGUUCACCCACUGUAAUAUUUGCUAUCAUGAGAGAAGCCUCUAGUGAACACUAUGGCCCCCGGGUCUACAUCACAUCAUAUUUUCAGCCUUACACUUUUACUUUGUUGCACUUUACGCCUUCAGUUCUCACCUUGCAAUCAAUCGUGAAGGGAUUGACAACCCCUUUGUAGCGUUGGGUGCAAGUUUGCUGUUUUUGCGCAGGUACUUUGGAGACUUGCCUUGAUACUCCUACUUGAUUGAUACCUCGGUUCUCAAACUGAGGGAAAUACUUACCGCUACUGUGCUGCAUCACCCUUUCCUCUUCAAGGGAAAAACCAACGCAAGCUCAAGAGGUAGCAAGAAGAAUUUCUGGCGCCGUUGCCAGGGAGGAUCAACUCAAGAAUAGUCUCCCGUCAACGUGCCAAUUUCUGGCGCCGUUGCCGGGGAGUAUCAAGUCAAGAAUAGUCUUCCUCCAACGUGUCAAUUUCUGGCACCGGGGACUAUUCUAAGUGAAGCUUAUCCAAGUAACUGUCACAAACUCAUCUCUUGCAUUUACCUUUUUUUUCCUUUUGCCUCUCGUUUUCCUCUCCCCCACUUCUGAAAAACAAAAAUUACAAAAAUAUUUGCCUUUUUCGUUUGCCUUUCCUUUGCUUGUGUGCAAUGUGCCUUCAAUAUGCUUGCAUCUUCGCUUGCUGAAAAUCUAUUGAUAUGGAUCUUCAUUCACUUGCUAAUCUCUUUAAGAGAUCCAAUUAUGUUGAACCAUUUGCUAGUGAAUUGAGUGCACUUGACUUUCUCUAUGGAGUUUUCUUGAGAUGUGUGAAUUUGAAAACCGUGAUGAAGAAAUUUGUGAAGUGAUUCAUGAGGGCUCCUUUAAUGAAAAGCAUGAUUGCAAUGGUUUCAUUAUAAAUUCUAUUCAUGACAAUCAUGCUAAAAAUAUGCAAAACCCUAAAGUUGGGGAUUCUAGUUUUGCUUUGUCCACUACUUGUUGCAAUGAUCAAGAUUGGGGUAAUGAUUUUUCUUAUGAUCUUAAAAAAUUUGUUUAAGCCUCAUGAUGAAUAUGAUAUUUGCAAUAAUAUUGAAGGUGGGUUUGGAGAAGUCAUGACUUUAGUUGAUGAUAAUCCCACUAUUUUUGAUGAGCGUCAACUUUGCAUGUAUGUGGAUCAUGAAAAGAAUAUCCUAUGUGAUAGCUAUAUUGUUGAAUUUGAAUAUGAUCCCACAUGUAAUUAUUGUGAGAGAGGAAAAUAUGGUGGUAGAAAUUUUCAUACCACUAAAUCACCUCUUGUUUUGUUGAGAUUGAUAUUGUCUCUUUCUUCUUCCUUGCAUAUGGUAACUAUUGGUUGUCUUGACAAUUUAUUUUCCUAUAAAAUGCCUAUGCAUAGGAAGUAUGUUAGACUUAGAUGUUAUUUUCACAUGCUUUAUGAUGCUCUCGUUGUGCUUCAAUUCUUGUGUUUUGUGUGAGCAUCAUUGAAUUAUCAAUGCCUAGCUAAGGGCGUUAAACAAUAGCGCUUGUUGGGAGGCAACCCAAUGUAUUUAUCUUUGCUUUUUUUCNNNNNNNNNNNNNNNNNNNNUUUUUUUUUGUGUCCACACCGUCAUAAUUUUGUUAUGAUUGUGUUUUUUUUGUUUCUUUUUGUGUUUGAGCCAAGUAAAACCUUUAUGACUGGUUUUGGUGAUGUUGUUUGAUCUUGCUGGAAAAGAGAGAAACUUUGCGCUCACGAAAUUAUUUUUAAUUCCUAUCCAGAAAGAGCUUUUGAGUUGAUUCAUUUUUCUGCUGGUUGAUAUGCCAAUUUCCCUAAUUGUCAUAAUUUUACAGAAGUUUUGAGAUAACAUAAGUAUAUGAAGUAUACAGAUUGCUACAGAUUGGUCUGUUUUUGACAAAUUAUGUUUGUGUUGUGUUGAUUGCUUAUUUUGAUGAAACUAUGGAUAGUAUCGGGGGGUACUAGCUAUGGAAAAGUGAGAAUACAGUAAUCUAACACCAAUAUAAAUAGAAAUCAGGUUUGCUAGAGUACCUAAAGAUUUGGUAGUUUGUUUUCUUGUGCUAAUGAUAUCACGAGUUUAUGUUUAAGUUUUGUGUUGUGAAGUUUUCAAGUUUUGGGUGAUGUUCUCGUGGACAAUGGGAUAAAGAGUGGAAAGAGCUCAAGCUUGGGGAUGCCCAAGGCAUCCCAAGCCAAAUUCAAGGACACCAAAAAGCCUAAGCUUGGGGAUGCCCCGGGAAGGCAUUCCCUCUUUCGUCUUCAAUACAUCGGUAACGUUACUUGGAGCUAUAUUUUUAUUCACCACAUGAUAUGUGUUUUGCUUGGAGCAUCGUGUAUUAUAGGAUUCUUUUCUUUUUGUUGUGUGACAAUCAUCCUUGCUCCACACCUUUCGAGAGAGACAUGCACUCAUCGUAAUUUUGCUAGAAUACUCUUUGAGCUUCGCUUAUAUCUUUUGAGUUAGGCAAUUUACCUCGCAUGUGCUUUACUUAUAUCUUUUUGAGCUAGAUAAAUUUGCUCUAGUGCUUCACUUAGAUCUUUUUAGAGCACAGCGGUGUCAUAUUUUGGAGAAAUAAGAACUCUCGAUCUUCACUUAUAUCUUUUUGAGAGUGCUCUCUUUGAGUAACUUGGUAGUUAGCUUGUGCUAUGAAAGUAGUCCUAAAGAUGGUAGGCAUCCAAAGAGGAUGUAAUAAAAACUUGCAUAUUCUUGUGCAUUGAUUAGUGAAGAGAAGUUUGAUUCAUCUCAAUUAGUUUUGAGACAUGGAUAUGGUAAUAUUAAAGUUGUGUUAGUAGGGUGUUGUGAAUCUAGAAAUACUUGUGUUGCAGUUAGUGAUUCCCGUAGCAUGCACGUAUGGUGAACCGCUAUGUUAGAAAGUCGGAGCAUAAUUGAUUUAUUGAUUGUCAUCCUUUGUGUUGCGGUUGGGAUCGCACGAUGGUUAAACACCUACCAACCCUUCCCCUAGGAUUAUGCAUUUAGCACUUUGUUUCGAUUACUAAUAAAAACUUUCGCAAUAAGUAUAUGAGUUCUACAUGACUAAUGUGAGUCCAUGGUAUAGAUGCACUUUCACGUUCCACCAUUGCUAGCCUCUAUAGUGCCGUGCAAUUUUCGCCGGUGCACAAACCCACCAUAUACCCUCCUCAAAACAGCCACCAUACCUACCUAUUAUGGCAUUUUCAUAGCCAUUCCGAGAUAUAUUGCCAUGCAACUCCCACCGUUCCGUCUCAUGACAUGUGUCGUCACUUUCAUAUUGCCAUUGCAUGAUCGUAAGAUAGCUAGCGAGAUGUUUCAACGUCAUACACUAAGCUAGAUCGUUGCACAUCCCAGUACACUUCCGGAGGCAUUUCCUAUAGAGUCAUCAUUGUUCUAGGUAUUGAGUUGUGAGUAAAUAAAAGUGUGAUGAUCGUCAUUAUUAGAGAAUUGUCCCAUGUGACGAAAUAAAAAAAAGAGGCCAAAGAUGCCCACAAAAAAAAUGAGAAAAAAAGAGGCCAAAGUGCCCAAACAAAAAAAAUGAGAGAAAAAAGAGAGAAGGGACAAUGCUACUAUCUUUUUCAACACUUGUGCUUCCAAAUAGCACCAUGUUCUUCAUGAUAGAGAGUCUCUUGGUUUGACACUUCCAUAUACUAGUGGGAAUUUUCGUUAUAUAACUUGGCUUGUAUAUUCCAAUGAUGGGCUUCCUCAAAAUUGCCCUAGGUCUUCAUGAGCAAGCAAGUUGGAUGCACACCCACUAGUUCUUCUUUUGAGCUUUCACAUACUUAUAGGUCUCGUGCAUCCGUUGCAUGGUAAUCCCUACUCAUUCACAUUGAUAUCUAUUGAUGGGCAUCUCCAUAGCCCUUUGAUACGCCGAGUUGAUGUGACCAUCUCUUCCUUUUUGCCUCACAACCUCCACUACACUCUAUUCCACCUAUAGUGCUAUAUCCAUGGCUCAUGCUAAUGUAUUGCGUGAGAGUAGAAAAAGUUUGAGAAAGUAAGAGUGCGAAAACAAUUACUUGGCCAAUUCCGGGGUUGUGCAUGAUUUAAAUUCAUUAUGUGGGGAUGAUGGAGCAUAGCCAGACUAUAUGAUUUUGUAGGGAUAACUUUCUUUAGCCUUGUUAUUUCGAAAGUUCAUGAUUACCUUGCUAGUUUGCUUGAAGUAUUAUUGUUUUCAUGUCAAUAGAAAACUAUUGUUUUGAAUCUCAUGGAUCUGAACAUUCAUGUCACAUGAAAGAAGUUACAAAGGACAAGUAUGUUAGGUAGCAUUCCACAUCAAAAAUUCGGUCUUUAUCACUUCCCUACUCGAGGACGAGCAGGAGUUAAGCUUGGGGAUGCUUGAUAUGUCUCCAACGUAUCAAUAUUUUUUUAUGGUUCCAUGCUAUUAUCUUGUCAACAUUGGAUGUUUUGUAUGCAUGAAUAUGCUAUUUUAUAUCUUCUUGGGACUAACCUAUUAACUCAGUGCCAAGUGCCAGUUCCUGUUUUUUCCGUGUUUUUGACCUUUUUGAGAGGAGACUAUUAAACGGAGUCCAAACGGAAUAAAACCUGCGGAAUGAUUUUUUCCAUAACAGAAGACACGCAGGAGACUUGAGAACCAGGGAAGGGGACCUCGGAGGAGGUCACAAGCCACCUAGGACCGACCUAGGGGGAGGGCGGGCCUAGCAGGCUUGUGGGCCCCCUGUGGUUCCCCUGCCCUAGUUCUUCCGCCUAUAAAUUCCAUAAAAAUCUGAAAACACGAAAGAGAGCCACGAAAAUACUUUUCCACCGCCGCAAGCUUCUCUCUCCGCAAGAUCCCAUCUGGGGAACGUUCUGGUGCCCUGCCGGAGGGGGAUUCGCACACUGAGGGCUUCUUCAUGAAAACCAUUGCCUCUCCGAUGAUGCGUGAGUAGUUCACCAUAGACCUUCCGGUCCUUAGCUAGUAGCUAGAUGGCUUCUUCUCUCUCUUGGAUCUUCAAUACAAAGUUCUCCAUGAUCUUCAUGGAGUUCUAUCCGAUGUAAUCUUCUUUUGCGGUGUGUUUGUCGAGAUCCGAUGAAUUGUGGAUUUAUGAUCAGAUUAUCUAUGAAUGUUAUUUGAGUCUCUGCUGCGGCAACAGACAAGAGUGCCAGAGAUUGACACGUCGAAGGAGGCUGGGCUUGCGUUGGUUUUUCCCUUGAAGAGGAAAGGGUGGUGCAGCACAGGAGCAGUAAGUAUUUCCCUCAGUUUGAGAACCAAGGUAUCAAUCCAGUAUGAGAAUCUCGUCAAGUCCAGAGUACCUGCGCAAACACAAACGAGCUUGCACCCAACGCUAUAAAGGGGUUGUCCAUCCCUUCAAGAUUGAUUGCAAAGUGAGAUCUGAAGGCGGAAAGUGCAACGAAGUAAAAGAGUAAGGCUAAAAAUAUGGUGUGGAGUAGACCCGGGGGCCAUAGUGUUCACUAGAGGCUUCUCUCAAAAUAGCAAAUAUUAUGGUGGAUGAACAAAUUACUGUCGAGCAAUUGAUAGAACUGCGCAAAGUCAUGACGAUAUCUAAGGCAAUGAUCCUACAUAUAGGCAUCACGUCCGAGACAAGUAGACCGAUACUUUCUGCAUCUACUACUAUUACUCCACACAUCGACCGCUAUCCAGCAUGAAUCUUGUGUAUUGAGUUCAGGACGAACAGAGUAACGCCUUAAGCAAGAUGACCUGAUGUAGAGGGAUAAACUCAAACCAAUGAUGAAACCCCAUCUUUUUACCCUUGAUGGCAACAACACGAUGCGUAACUCGCUACCCCUUCUGUCACUGGGUGAGGUCACCGCACGGUAUGAACCCAAAACCAAGCACAUCUCCCAUUGCAAGAAUCAUAGAUCUAGUUGGCCAAACAAAACCCACAACUCGAAGAGAAUUACAAGGAUAUGAAAUCAUGCAUAUAAGAGAUCAGAAGAAACUCAAAUAAGAUUCAUAGAUAAUAUGAUCAUAAAUCCACAAUUCAUCGAAUCUCGACAAACACACCGCAAAAGAAUAUUACAUUGGAUAGAUCUCCAUGAAGAUCAUGGAGAACUUUGUAUUGAAUAUCUAAGAGAGAGAAGAAGCCAUCUAGCUACUAGCUAUGGACCCGUAGGUCUAUGGUGAACUACUCCUGCAUCAUUAGAGAGGUCAUGGUGUUGAUGAAGAAGCCCUCCGUAUCCGAAUCCCCCCUCCGGCAGGGCACCAGAACGUGCCCCAAAUGGGAUCUUGCGGAGAAAGAAGCUUGCGGCGGCGGAAAAGUACUUUCGGUGAUCUCUUGAUUUUUUUCUGGAAUUUAUGGGAAUAUAUAGGCGAAAGACCUAGUGCAGGGGAGGCCCAGGGAGCCCACAAGCCUCGGAGGCGCGGCCCCCCUGGUCGCGGCUAGGCGGCUUAUGGGGUCCCUGGAGAUCCCCUGCCUUGGUUCUCAAGCUUCCGGAUCUUCUUCUGUUUCGGAAAAAAUCUUUUUGGAAGUUUCGUUCCAUUUGGACUCCGUUUAAAAUCGUCCUCUGAAAAGGGUCAAAAACAUGGACAAAACAGGAACUAGCACUUGGCACUGAGUUAAUAAGUUAGUCCCAAAAAAGAUACAAAAGGCAUACAAAACAUCCAAAUUUUGACAAGAUAAUAGCAUGAAACCAUCAAAAAUUAUAGAUACGUUGGAGAUGUAUCAAGCAUCCCCAAGCUUAACUCCUGCUCGUCCUCGAGUAGGGAAGUGAUAAAGACUGAAUUUUUGAUGUGGAAUGCUACCUAGCAUAGUUGUCCUUUGCAACUUCUUUCAUGUGACAUGAAUGUUCAGAUCCGUAAGAUUCAAAACAAUAGUUUGCUAUUGACAUGAAAACAAUAAUACUUCAAGCAAACUAUCAAGGUAACCAUGAACUUUCAAAAUAACAAGGCCAAAGAAAGUCACCCUACAAAAUCAUAUAGUCUGGCUAUGCUCCAUAAUCCUCACACAACUAAUGUAAAUCAUGCACAACCCCGGUAUUGGCCAAGUAAUUGUUUUCGCACUCUUUACUUUCUCAAACUUUUUAUAACUAUCACGCAAUACAUCAGCGUGAGCCAUGGAUAUUGUACUAUAGGUGGAAUAGAGUGUGGUGGUGGUUGUGAGAGAAAAAGGAGGAGAUGGUCACAUUGACUCGGCGUAUCAAAGGGCUAUGGAGAUGCCCAUUAAUAGAUAUCAAUGUGAAUGAGUAGGGAUUUCCAUACAAAGGAUGCACUAGAGCAAUAAGUAUGUGAAAGCUCAAAAGGAGAACUAGUGGGUGUGCAUCCAACUUGCUUGCUCUCGAAGACGUAGGGCAAUUUUGAGGAAGCCCAUCAUUGGAAUAUAUAAGCCAAGUUAUAUAAUAAAGAUUCCCACUAGUAUAUGGUGGUGACGAAGCGAGAGGCUUUUAAUCAUGAAGAACAUGGUGCUAUUAUGAAGCACAAGUGUGGAAAAAGAUAGUAGCAUUGUCCCUUCUCUCUUUUUCUCUCUUUUUUUAAUUUUAAUUUGGGCACUUGGGACUCUUUUUCUCCCCUUUUUUUAUUUGGGAUCUUUGGCCUUUUUUUUAUUUCCUAACAUGGGGCAAUGCUCUAAUAAUGAUGAUCAUCACACUUUUAUUUACUCACAGCUCAAAGCUCAGAACGAUGAUGACUCUAAAGUAAAUGCCUUCGGCAGUGUACCGGGAUGUGCAACGAUCUAGCUUGGCGUAUGACGUUUAAACAUCUCGCUAGCUAUAUUAUGAUCAUGAAAUGGCAAUAUGAGAGUGACGGCACAAGUCAUGAGACGGAACGGUGGGAGUUGCAUGGCAAUAUAUCUUGGAAUGGCUAUGAAAAUGCCAUAGUAGGUAGGUAUGGUGGCUGUUUGAGGAAGGCAUAUGGUGGGUUUGUGUACCGGCAAAAAAUGCGCGACACUAGAGAGGCUAGCAAUGGUGGAUGGUGAAAGUGCAUCUAUACCAUGGACUCACAUUAGUCAUGAAGAACUCACAUACUUGUUGCGAAAGUUUUUAUUAUUAAUCGAAACAAAGUGCUAAACGCAUACUCCUAGGGGAAGGGUUGGUAGGUGUUAACCAUCGCGCGAUCCCGACCUCAACACAAAGGAUGACAAUCAAUAGAUCAAUUAUGCUCCGACUUCCUAACAUAGCGGUUCACCAUACGUGCAUGCUAUGGGAAUCACUAACUUCAACACAAGUAUUUCUAGAUUCACAACACCCUACUAACAUAACUCUUAAUAUUACCAAAUCCACGUCUCAAAACUAAUUGAGAGGAAUCAAGAAUUCUGUUUCUACUCAAUGCACAUGAAGAUGUAGAUUUUUGUAUCCCCUUUGGGUACCUAUCACCUUUGGGACUACUUUCAUAGCAUAAGCCAAUUACCAAGUCACGCGCCGACGUGCUCUAAAAUAUCUAAGUGAAGCACACAGAGAAAAAUUAUCUAGCUCAAAAGAUAUAAGUGAAGCACGAUGAGCAUUCUAGCAAAAUCAUGAUGAGUGCAUGUCUCUCUCUAUCAAAAAGGUGUCCAGCAAGGAUCAUUGUGACACAACAAAAAGAAAACACUCCUACGAUACAAGAUGCUCCAAGCAAAACACAUAUCAUGUGGUGAAUAAAAAUAUAGCUGCAAGUAAUGUUACCGAUGGAUUGAAGACGAAAGAGGGGAUGCCUUCCCGGGGCAUCCCCAAGCUUAGGCUUUUUGGUAUCCUUGAAUUUGGCUUGGGAUGCCUUGGGCAUCCCCAAGCUUGAGCUCUUUCCACUCCUUAUCUCUUUGUCCAUGUGAACAUCACCCAAAACUUGAAAACUUCACAACACAAAACUUAAACAGAAACUCAUGAUAUCAUUAGCACAAGAAAACAAACUACCACCCCUUUAGGUACUGUAGCAAUCUUGAUUUCUAUUUAUAUUGGUUUUGGGGUACUUUAUUCUCACUUUUCCAUGGCUAGUACCCCCAAUACUAUCCAUAGUUUCAUCAAAACAAGCAACCAACUCAACAAAAACAGAAUCUGUCAAAAACAGACCAGUCUGUAGCAAUCUGUAUACUUCGUAUACUUCUGGUACCUCCAAAAUUCUGAAAACUUACGACUGCCUGGGAAAAAGGAAUAUCAACCAGCAGAAAAAAGAAUCAACUCAUAAUCUUUUUCUGAAUAAAAAUGAAAAAUCAUCUCGUGAGCGAAAAGUUUCUAUCUUUUUUCCAGCAGGAUCAAACAACCAUCACCGAGACUAGUCAUAAAGGUUUUGCUUGGAUCAAACACAAAAAUAAACACAAAAGACACAAUCAUAACAGAUAUAUGAUGGUGUGGACGCAACAAAACAGAAAGAAAAAGAUAAAUUCAUUGGGUUGCCUCCCAACAAGCGCUAUUGUUUAACGCCCUUAGCUAGGCAUAAGGAUAAAUCACAUCUAAGUCUAACAUACUUCCUAUGCAUAGGAAUUUUAUAGGAGAAAAAAUUGGCAAGACAACAAAUAGUUACCAAAUGCAAGGAAGAAGAAAGAGACAAUAGCAAUCUCAACAAAACGACAGGUAAUUUGGUAACAUGAAAGUUUCUACCACAAUAUUUUACUCUCUCAUAGCAAUUACAUGCGGGAUCAUAUUCGAAUUCAACAAUGUAACUAUCACAUAGGAUAUUCUUUUCAUGAUCCACAUGCAUGCAAAGUUGACGCUCUUCAAAAAUAGUGAGAUUAUCAUCAACUAAAGGCAUGACUUCUCCAAACCCACUUUCAAUAAUAUUGCAAAUAUCAUAUUCAUCAUGAGGCCUAAACAAAUUUUCAAGAUCAUAAGAAAAAUCAUCUCCCCACUCAUGAUCAUUGCAACAAGUAGUGGACAUAGCAAAACUAGCAUCCCCAAGCUUAGGGUUUUGCAUAUUUUUAGCAUGAUUGUCACUAAUAGAAUUUAUAGUGAAACCAUUGCAAUCAUGCUUUUCAUCCAAGGAGCCCUCGUGAAUCACUUCAUAAAUUUCUUCCUCACAAUUUUCAGAUUCACGCAUCUCAAGCAAAACUCCAUAAAGAUAGUCAAGUGCACUCAACUCACUAGCAAUUGGAUCAACAUAAUUGGAUCUCUUAAAGAGAUUACCAAGUGGAUGAGGAUCCAUAUAUCUAGAUUUUCUGCAAGCGAAGAUGCAAGCAUAUGGAAGGCACAUGGCACACAAGCGAACAGAAAGCAAGCGAGAGAGAAGGGCGAACGAAAAAGGCAAACAAAAAAGGAAAAUAUUUUUGUAAUUAUUUUGUUUUUGCAGAAGUGGGGGAGAGCAAAACGAGAGGCAAUAAAGUAAAUGCAGGAUAUGAGUUUGUGACACUUACUUGGAUGAGUUCUUGACUUGAUCCUCUCCGGCAACAGCGCCAGAAAUUCUUCUGCUGCGGCAACAGACAACAGUGCCAGAGAUUGACACGUUGACGGAGGUUGGGCUUGCGUUGGUUUUUCCCUUGAAGAGAAAAGGUGGUGCAGCACAGGAGCAGUAAGUAUUUCCCUCAGUUUGAGAACCAAGGUAUCAAUCCAGUAGGAGAAUCUCGUCAAGUCCAGAGUACAUGCGCAAACACAGACGAGCUUGCACCCAACGCUAUAAAGGGGUUGUCAAUCCCUUCAAGAUUGAUUGCAAAGUGAGAUCUGAAGGCGGAAAGUGCAACGAAGUAAAAGAGUAAGGUUGAAAUUAUGGUGUGGAGUAGACCCGGGGGCCAUAGUGUUCACUAGAGGCUUCUCUCAAAAUAGAAAAUAGUACGAUGGGUGAACAAAUUACUGUCGAGCAAUUGAUAGAACCGAGCAAAGUCAUGACAAGGCAAUGAUCAUACAUAUAGGCAUCACGUCCGAGACAAGUAGACCGAUAGUUUCUGCAUCUACUACUAUUACUCCACACAUCGACCGUUAUCCAGCAUGUAUCUAGUGUAUUGAGUUCAUGACGAACAAAGUAACGCCUUAAGCAAGAUGACAUGAUGUAGAGGGAUAAACUCAAACCAAUGAUGAAAACCCCAUCUUUUUACCCUUGAUGGCAAGAACACGAUGCGUGCCUUGCUACCCCGUCUGUCACUUUGUGAGGUCACCGCUCGGUAUGAACCGAAAACCAAGCACUUCUCCCAUUGCAAGAAUCAUAGAUCUAUUUGGCCAAACAAAACCCACAACUCGAAGAGAAUUACAAGGAUAUGAAAUCAUGCAUAUAAGAGAUGAGAAGAAACUCAAAUAAGAUUCAUAGAUAAUCUGAUCAUAAAUCCACAAUUCAUCAGAUCUCGACAAACACACCGCAAAAGAAGAUUACAUGGGAUAGAUCUUCAUGAAGACCAUGGAGAACUUUGUAUUGAAGAUCCAAGAGAGAGAAGAAGCCAUCUAGCUACUAGCUAUGGACCCGUAGGUCUAUGGUGAACUACUCACGCAUCAUCGGAGAGGUCAUGGUGUUGAUGAAGAAGCCCUCCGUAUCCGAAUCCCCCUCCGGCAGGGCACCAGAAAGUGCCCCAGAUGGGAUCUUGCGGAGACAGAAGCUUGCGGCGGCGAAAAAGUACUUUCGAUGGUCUCUUGAUUUUUUUAGAAUUUAUGGGAAUAUAUAGGCGAAAGACCAAGGGCAUGGGAGGCCCAGGGAGCCAACAAGCCUGGGAGGUACGGGCCCCCUGGCCGCGGCUAGGGGGCUUGUGGGGGUACCUGGAGACCCCCUGCCUUGGUUCUCAAGCUUCCCGAACUUCUUCUGUUUCGGAAAAAAUCUUUUUGGAGUUUCGUUCCGUUUGGACUCCGUUUAAAAUCCUCCUGUGAAAAGGGUCAAAAACAUGGAAAAAACAGGAACACGCACUUGGCACUGAGUUAAUAAGUAAGUCCCAAAAAAGAUAUAAAAGGCAUACAAAACAUCCAAAGUUUGACAAGAUAAUAGCAUGAAACCAUCAAAAAUUAUAGAUACUUUGGAGACAUAUCAGUCUCCUCUGAUCUCUUAUAUGCAUGAUUUCUUAUCCUUGUAAUUCUCUUCGAGUUGUGGGUUUCGUUUAACCAACUUGAUCUAUAAUUCUUGCAAUGGGAGAAGUGCUUGGUUUUGAGUUCAUACCGUGCGGUGACCUCACCCAGCGACAGAAGGGGUAGCGAGGCACGUAUCGUGUUGUUGCCAUCAAGGGUAAAGAUGGGGUUUAUAUCUAUUGCAUGAAUUUAUCCCUCUACAUCAUGUCAUCUUGCUUAAGGCGUUAUUCCGCUUUUCAUGAACUUAGUACACUAGAUGCAUGCUGGAUAGCGGUCGAUGUGUGGAGUAAUAGUAGUAGAUGCAGAAAGUAUCGGUCUACUUGUCUCGAACGUGAUGCCUAUAUGCAUGAUCAUUGCCUUAGAUAUCAUCAUGACUUUGCGCGGUUAAAUCAAUUGCUUGACAGUAAUUCGUUCACCCACCGUAAUAUUUGCUAUCAUUGGAGAAGCCUCUAGUGAACACUAUGGCCCCCGGGUCUACUUCACAUCAUAUUUUCAGCCUUACACUUUUACUUUGUUGCACUUUCCGCCUUCAGAUCUCACCUUGCAAUCAAUCUUGAAGGUAUUGACAACCCCUUUGUAGCGUUGGGUGCAAGUUUGCUGUUUUUGCGCAGGUACUUUGGAGACUUUCCUUGAUACUCCUACUGGAUUGAUACCUUGGUUCUCAAACUGAGGGAAAUACUUACUGCUACUGUGCUGCAUCACCCUUUCCUCUUCAAGGGAAAAACCAACGCAAACUCAAGAGGUAGCAAGACCCUGCGGGUUCGAGAACUAUGUAGACAUGACCGAGACACUCUCUGGUCAGUAACCAAUAGUGAGACCUGGAUGCCCAUAUUGGUUUCUACAUAUUUUACGAAGAUCUUUAUUGAUUGAACUUCUAUAUCAAGGAUUUAGAUAAUCCCGUAUGCUAUUCCCUUUGUCCAUCGGUAUGUUACUUGCCCAGGAUUGAUUGUCGGUAUCUGCAUACCUAGUUCAAUCUCGUUACCGGCAAGUCUCUUUACUCGUUCCGUAAUACAAGAUCAUGUGGCUAACUCUUUAGUCACAUUGCUUGCAAGCUUGUUGUGAUGUUGUAUUACCGAGUGGGCCCCGAGAUACCUCUCCAUCAGAUGGAGUGACAAAUCCUUGUCUUGAUCCAUGCCAACCCAACAAACACCCUCGGAGAUACCAGUAGAGCAUCUUUAUAGUCACCCAGUUAUGUUGCGACGUUUCAUACACACAAGGUAUUCCUCCAGUUUCAUUGAGUUGCAUGAUCUCCUGGUCAUAGGAACAAAUACUUGACAUGCAAAAAAUAAUAGCAAUAAACUGAUGCGAUCAUAUGGUACGUGUUGGAAAUAUGCCCUAGAGGCAAUAUACUAAAUUUCUUAUUAUUAUAUUUCCUUGUUCAUGAUAAUCGUUUAUUAUCCAUGCUAGAAUUGUAUUGAUUGGAAGCUCAAAUACAUGUGUGGAUACGUAGACAACACACUGUCCCUAAUGAGCCUUUAAGUACUAGCUCGUUGAUCGAAGAUGGUCAAGGAUUCCUGACCAUAGACACGAGUUAUCAUUUGAUAAGAGGAUCACAUCAUUAGGAGAAUGAUGUGAUGGACAAGAUACAAACUAUAAACUUAACAUACGAUCGUGUUAGUUUAUUGCUACUGUUUUCUGCAUGUCAACUAUCUGUUUCUAUGACCAUGAGAUCAUGCAACUAUCAGGCACCGGAGGAAUGCCUUGUGUGUAUCAAACGUAACAACGUAAUUGGGUGACUAUAAAAGUGCUCUAAUGGUAUCUCUGAAGGUGUAUGUUGGGUUGGCAUGAAUUGAGACUUUGAUUUGUCACUCCGUAUGACGAAGAGGUAUCUCUAGAGCCUACUCGGUAAUGAAAAAUCACAAUGAGCUUGCAAGUAAUGUGACUAAAGAGUUAGUCACGGCAUCUUGUAUUACGGAAUGAGUAAAGACACUUGCCGAUAACGAGAUUGAACUAGGUAUGGAGAUACCGACGAUCGAAUCUCGGGAAAGUAACAUACCGAUGGACAAAGGGAACAAUAUACGAGAUUGAUUGAAUCCUUGACAUCGUGGUUCGACCGAUAAGGAUCUUUGUACAAUAUGUAGGAGCCAAUAUGGGCAUCCAUGUCCCGCUAUUGGUUAUUUACCAGCGAGUGUCUCAGGUCAUGUGUGCAUAGUUCUUGAACAUGCAGGACCUGCACACUUAAAGUUUGGCGACGUUUUAGUAUAGUUGAGUUAUGUAUGUUGGUGACCGAAGGUUGUUCGGAGUCCCGGAUGAGAUCCCGGACGUCACCAGGAGCUCUUGAAUGGUCCGGAUGUAAAGAUUGAUACAUGGGAAGUUCUGUGUUGGUCACUAGAGAAAGUUCGAGCGUCAUCGAUGGCGUACCGGGGGUGCCGGAAGGUUUCCGGGGGUCCACCAGCCCGGAGGGUCCACACGGGCUGUGAGGGAUGCACACCAGCCCCUGCUGGACUUGGUGCACAUCCCCGCCUAAGGCCCAUGUGGCUGGGCUGGUGGAGGGCCAACCCUAUAGGGGCGCGCCACCCUAACUUGGGGGGGGGGGGGGGGGGCCAACCCUAUAGGGGGGGGCCCCCCAAAGUGGGGGGGGGGGGGGGCAAGCCACCCCUAGGGCAGAUGCCCCUUCCUCCUUUGGCCGCUGCCCCUCCCUCCUUUGGCCGCCGCCCCCUAGGGUUGAAUCCCUAGGGCGGAGCCCCUCUCCCCUUCCCCCUAUAUAUAUAGAUGGGGAGAGAGAGGGCUCCAACACACCAAGGCCACGACGCAGCCCUGUCUCUCCCACAUAUCAGUUUUCUCCUCUAGAUUGGUUCCGGUAUUGCUUGGCGAAGCCUUGUCGGAGCAGCUCCACCAACACCGCCACCAUGCCGUCGUGCUGACGGAGAACUCAUCUACCUCUCCACCCUCUCGCUUCCAGGAUCAAGGAGCCGGAGAUCGUCAUCGAGCUGUAUGUGUGCUGAACGCGGAGGUGCCGUUCGUUUGGCACUAGAUCUAAAUGGAUCGUGAUGGGAUUGUCGAACGGAUCAUGAUGGGAUCGUGGGACGAAUCGUGAUUGGAUCUCGGGACGGAUUGUGAUUGGAUCACAAAGACGUUCGACUAUAACAACCGCGUUAUAUACACUUCCGCUUAGCGAUCUACAAGGGUAUGUAGAUGCACUCCCCCUCUCGUAGAUGAUAGUCUGCAUAUAUUGAUCUUGGUGAGUGUAGGGAAUUUUUUGUUUCCCAUGAAAUGUUCCCCAACACUACGUUCAUAGUUUCGGUAUUGUCCAUCACAUUAUUCUCCUAAUGAUGUCAUCCCGUUAUUAAAUGACAACUCAUGUCUAUGGCCAGGAAACCUUUAGAUGCUCACCUGGGACAGUGUGUUGUCUACGUAUCCACACAAGUAUUUGAGUUUCCAAUCAAUACAAUUCUAGCAUGGAUAAUAAACGUUUAUCAUGAACAAAGAAAUAUAAUAAUAACCAUUUUAUUAUUGCCUCUAGGGCAUAUUUCCAACAGUUACUUGCAAACUAGCAGGUGGUUGAUGCUUUCAUUUAUGAUUCUUGCUACCUACAAAAACUCAAACUAAUCAAUUGCAAUCUCCACUAAUGAAUUUUACAUAUCAAAUUUUAAAUCUGUGGCUGGGACUGAUGCCUCAACUACUUUACAAAUAUUCUCCCACUACUAUCUUGUCGAAUAUAAAGUAGGGUUGCAAUACUUCCCAAUGAGGAUACUGUCGUGGGAUGAUUUCGACACUAAGAGAGAGGGGUAGGGAUGGAGCUAGAUCUAGCAGGGUGCCAGUGUGAGAUAAGGAGGUUUUAUCAGUUCAGACCCCUCUCGGAAGAGCUAAUGACCCGCGGUGGGAGCUUUUCUUUCUCUUUGUGUUUUGGUGAUUACAAAUGAUGCGAACCCCUGUUACAAAAGUAGGGAGCCGCUUAUAUAGAGUGCACUAUGUCCCAUGACAAUUGCCAUUACAAGGGUUUAAAUAUGUCUAAUUAUUAAAUCGAGUAAAAAAGGUAACUGAAAGAUGUCUAAUUAUUAGAUCGACUACAAAAGGUAACUGAAGCAAUAAAGGUAGUAAUACUAGUUCUAUUAAAGUCCAUGAGGCUCAUGUGCAUUCUCCGCUUGUUCUACAUCAUGCCUCCGAGUAAUUCGUGUAUUUUAACACUGAUGAACUCCGUCCAAAUGACCUGGUGUACUUGACCCGCCCGGGUGUGUUGGUAUCGUCCGAGUGAUUUUUCACGUCAACUGUGUUUGGUAGGUGAUCAUCUUGCUUUACGAUUCCCAUGGAUUGUAGUUUGUUCAGUGCUGAUGAGCCUACCAUUAGUAGCUGACCUCAUAGACAUCAGACUAUUAUGACCCCCUAUACUAUCAGAGUGCGACCAUUAUGUGUAACUCGGUGUUUAACCGCAUGUGUAUCCAUGUAUUAGGAGCCAGGUGGAUGGGCACAUCAUCAGAUAGUGCGUAGUGAUUCAUGUGGCUACAAACAGAAUAAAUCAAAAUUAAUGGGAGCCUUUACAACCACACCUACUUUUUUUUUCUGUUGUGCCUUGACAGGUGGGACCUGAUUGUCAUACAGAGUAUACUUUGCAAGUGAGCCUUUCCCAUCAUUGUAAGUGAGCCUCACACCGUGCUGGCAUACCUAGACAUCAACAUAUACGCAUCUGAACGUUGUUGAAACCAUAUUUGAACAAAGAGUGCCAAGUAUUUGAAUCAGUUCGACGUUUUUUUCUAAGUUCAGACACGAAAGUGGACAUGGAUGGCAAGUUCAAGCACCACUGGUGCAAUUACCUCAAUGCAAAUAUUUAAGGGGUAAUUUUCGGGAGCAGUAACUUUCCGGAAAUAAAAUAAAUAAAAACUAGUGGGUGGCUUAGAUGAAAAACUACGGUAGAUGAGGAGAGAGGCGCAGGUGGUAAUCUAACGAUGGAUAUAUUUGCCCAUGCAGCAGCAUUCAGACGCAAUGCAUUGGAGGGCCACCCCUCUUCCGCUGAUCCAGAGGGAUAAGACAUCCUUCAACAAGCAAACGACGACCACCCCUUCGCAAUCUUGUUGGAAAGGAGCGGCGCUGCGCAUACGGUGAUAUAUACUGGGGCGGCAUGAGGGGGCCUCAAGUCAAGUGUAGCCUGCCAAGCUAGCUAUCGGCUCCCGACCUAGCAAUUUACGUACCACCAUGGCCCCAGCCGUGAUGGCUUCUUCAGCCACCACCGUCGCCCCCUUCCAGGGGCUCAAGUCCACCGCGGGCCUCCCCGUCAGCCGCCGCUCCGGCAGCGCCGGCCUCAGCAGCGUCAGCAAUGGCGGAAGGAUCAGAUGCAUGCAGGUAUGGAAACCAAUUAUUAUUUUUGCCAAGGAUGGUAUGGUCAAGGUGCAUCUUCGCACAAUCAUAUAUUUAUAAAUGUAGCGACUUUGUUUGUUUGGAUGGUGGCUUUGAAUUGGUCUUUGUAUUUAUUUUGUUAGAUUUACUGAAUAAACAUAAUAAAAAUGAUAAUCUGCAUUGCUUGAUGCAGAUGCCGCCGGUGUUAUCCUCCUUUUUGAUUUUCUUUUCUAAAGGAUGACAAACACUAAGCUAACAUGAAUGUUCUUGUCGGGACAAUUGGUUAAUUUAUCGGGUAUUUCCACUGCACAUAGCCAAAGCUAUCCUUAGCAUGUGUAACCCAUAUACCAGGCCAAAACUAAACCAAGAUAGUGCACCACAAUGUAUGUAGAAGCACGUUCACAAGUGUAAGAAUACUUAACUCAUAAACUUUGUGAACAGAUUUUUUUUUUUUGCAAUGGGUACUAGAUCCCUUCGUCUCAAAAUAAAUGUCGUAAAUCAAUAACUAAACUAGUACAAAUUUUAUACUAAGUCAGUGACAUUUAUUUUGAGACGGAGGGAGUACUAUUUUAAUUCCCGUACACUACCCAUAAGCAAGAGCUGCCCUGGAGCUUUCUUGCUUGCGGACAUACCAUAAGGAGUAAUUUUUGCCUUAUGGCUAUGUCUUUCUUUAGGCACUAAGUGUUGAUCAGUUGUGUUCAUUCCAAUCAUUCAGGUGUGGCCCAUUGAGGGCAUCAAGAAGUUCGAGACCCUGUCUUACUUGCCACCCCUCUCCACGGAGGCCCUCCUGAAGCAGGUCGACUACCUGAUCCGCUCCAAGUGGGUGCCCUGCCUCGAGUUCAGCAAGGUUGGCUUCGUCUUCCGUGAGCACAACAGCUCCCCUGGAUAUUACGACGGCCGAUACUGGACAAUGUGGAAGCUGCCUAUGUUUGGGUGCACCGACGCCACACAGGUGCUCAACGAGGUGGAAGAGGUCAAGAAGGAGUACCCUGACGCCUACGUCCGCAUCAUCGGCUUUGACAACCUGCGGCAGGUGCAGUGCGUCAGCUUCAUCGCCUUCAGGCCACCGGGUUGCGAGGAGUCCGGCAAGGCAUAAAGUGCAAGUUGAAGUAACCGAUAUACAUGCUAUGUUAGUUCACAUUGGUUGGUCGGCAGCUCUGCUUUCUCAAUUUUACUUCUCGUUCCAAUCAUAUGUGAAUAUACGAGCAUAUGUAUUUAAGCACCUACCAACGUAGGCCGAGAAGGAUGCAUAUGAGAAUCAUAGCACCGGCUAUACAUACUUUGUUUGCAGCUGGAAAUGCCUAUGUCUUGCAUUCUUUUCUUCUCAUGCAUUUUUUGCUCAAUCAUAUGUUGCGUAUUAUCUAAUGCAAAAAUUGUUAUGGAAUACCAAAGUACUUCGAAUUUCUGUGGAGAAACAGAUAACAAGUGGUGAGAACCCCCUGAAAACUAGUGGCAAAACAGUAGGGAAUUGACGAGAAACAUACAAUAACAAAAAACUAAAAACGAAAUUAAAAAACUACAAAAAAGUACAAACAAAGGUGUCAAAACAAGACAAGGACAAACCUACCGUACUGCACUUGUCAUGUGAGCCAUAUUCCAGCGUCGAUUCAUCAAUAACAUGCCACUUUUCCUAACCAUUUUACACCACAAUUAGAUAUUUUUUGUAGUAUUCACUAGUAGAAAAUGACCCAUUUGUCCCGGUUCCAGAUGCCCAUUAGCCCCGGUUCUGAAACCGGGACUAAAGGGUCCAUACUAAAGGCCCAAAUCUUUAGUCCCGGUUGGCUUACGAACCAGGCCCAAAGGAGCUCCAAGUGGCCGCUGCGGGGAGCCCAGGCAGGAGGAACUUUAGUUCCGGUUGGUCACACCAACCGAGAUCAAAUGGCAUCCACGCGUCAGCAUCUGGACGGAGCUGGAUUUUUUUUAAUUGGGGGGGGGGGGUUUGGGGUUUUUGAUGGUUUAAUUUAGUGGUUUCGUAUUCUGAUAGCUAGCUAAUAGAGAGAAGUGUCCUCUCUUUCUCCGUGCUUGGUCGACGCUAGCUACUGUACAUAUAGAAAGAACUUAACGCUAGCUAAUAAGAAAAUGAAGGAAACCAUUUACAAUCCCUAACAUCUUUUACAAUAUAACAUCUUUUACAAUCCCUAACAUCUUUUACAAUAUAACAUCUUUUACAAUCCCUAACAUCAUCUACCUAAGAUCUAAUCACAAAUAACUCACAUAGUAUUCUCCAUCUUUAGGUAUGACGUGGUCAAGAAAGAAUCCCGCGAAUUCCUCGUGAAUUGCUCGUAUGCGAUCAUGUGUUAGGAGUUCAUCCCGCAUCUGCGAGAUCUAAUUUAAAGAAGGGGGUCAAUACAUGCAUAUAUAUGAAUAAAACUCAACACAAUUGAUGGUAAUAUAAAAAAUAAAAUUGUGAAUAUUAUUUACGUAUUUGAUAUUGUUUCUCAGAUAAGCCCCCGCUCAGAGGUCGAGAGGCGAAUGAGCUCGCAUACGUAAUCUGCACAUAAUUCAGUCCCACUUUCCUGGUACAAGCAGUUUACGAGAAUAGAGUUCAAUCAAAGUGGUAAGCAAGCAUGGUAAUGAUAUAUUGAUGAAAAAUUGAAUCAAUUAGAGAUACGCGGAACUAGCUAGUACUACUUACUUUGGGGUGCGUAAAUUGCAACUCUUUGUUUAGACCGGGAGUCUUUUUGGUGAACUUCUUCCAAACCCUGCGAGACAAAGAAAAUGAUUACUUGAUAUCAGGAAAUUAACGAAAGUUGCAUGCCGAUAUGCUCCCGGUAUUGACUGAACUUACUUCUUGAGCAUUGCAGUCAUGUCCGUAUAAUACUCGGGAUCUUUACGUCUCGAGUCUAAGGCAGUUCCUUUUGCCCCGUCAAGCUUAAUGGAUAGUAGAAUAUAGUGGUAACUGCGCACACAUAUAUAACUGAUCAAAUACAUUACUUAACCUCGAGUAAGCGAAACUGAGUAUACAGAGAAGAUAACAACACUCACUUGAAGUUGUAAGGAAAGAGUAUUUCCCUUUUGUUUUGAUGUAUAAGGAACAACUUUAGCAAGUUCUUCUAGGUCUCUUUGGUUGAGUAUCGUGCCAACCAUUCAUUUACGGCAUCUGGGCUAAUGAACCCACAUCGAAGAUUCCUGCUUUUUUUAAUUCGAAGAUCUUCAAUCUGCAUAAUAUAUAUAAUGAGGACAAUUAUAUAUAUACAUGCAAUGAAUGAGCCGAGCUAGAGACUUAACUAUAGAAGUAAUACUUACAAAUAGUAGGAAGUCACGAGUUGUUUGUCUAGGGCCAGUUGAUUGUAUAACUGAAAUAACUACACAAAUUCAACAGGCAUCACUGGAGCUCCAAUGAAUUCGUGCUCUAGUUUUACUUCCAUCUAGAUAGUGUCUUUCCCAUACUCGAUGCAGGUAUUCAUGUACCACUCAUGAAAUUUGUGCAUCAUCGGUGCUAGAGGAGGAUGACCAGGUUUGACGAGAGGCUUCCCGUGCAUGUAUUUACAUCAUCCCCCAAGUAAUCACCAGGAUUGGUACCGGGCACCAUCCCGGAGGAUUAGCGACGAUAUCUCUCGACACCUUGAGCGGGGGGCACGAUAUCUUCUCGUGUUGGCCGAGUUGGGGAAUUGUUUUCCCACUUCUUCGUUUUGCUAACCUUGCAUCACUUCGAGCCGCCGGAGCAGCGGUGUAUCUCUUCUGCUUGAUAGAAGGAGGAGANNNNNNNNNNNNNNNNNNNNNNNNNNNNNNNNNNNNNNNNNNNNNNNNNNNNNNUGUACUCCUACUGCCAUAGACAUGUACUCCUCACGGCAUGAACCAGCUUAUUCUCCCCUUCACCUGUAGGGUGGUCAAGCUCGAGCUCCUCAAAUCUGUCCAUUACUUCAUCCACCAUCACAACAGCAAAGCCAUGUGGAAUCGGAAGGCAGUAAAAAAGUUUCGUUGGGUUGAGGAGGUGCAAUAGAGCCGAUAGCAGCCUUGAAAGUGAGGUUCCGACAUUUCGUCAUAAGCUCGCAAUUUUGAGCCUGUGUGAUAGUAUCCACGGGGUAGCUAGGAGCCGUGAAGUCAGGCUGAACGAGCUCCGUGGAAGCCACGCUUCUUCUCCGCUGAGAUGGCGGGGUAGCUUCUCGGGUAGCUCGCUGGCUCUCAAGUUCCUCUAGCUUUUGUAGUCUUGCAUUGAUCUUCUGCAUGUCGCUCAGCUCCGCUUUCCUCUUUCUCUCUCGGCUUCUGUAACCGCCUGCGUUGGGAAACCCAACCUUCCACGGAACGGAGCCUGGUGUUCCUCGUGUCCGUCCAGGGUGCUCAACAUUCCCUAGGGCCUCAGUCAUCUCGUCCUUCUCUCUGUCGGGAAUGAACGUCCCUUCCUGCGCUGCGGUGAUACAAUUCGGAAGCGUCUUGAUGGGUAUUGCAAAUUGCUCGUUCGUUCAACGGCACUUCCCUGUUUCAGGGUCCAAAGUUCCCCCAACCGCGAAGAACAAAGUCCUUGAAUGGUCUGGCUAGCUAAAUGUCUGUGGUUCGACCCUUUUAGCAAUCAUGUCAUUCUCAGCUUUGUCCCACAACGGAUGGGCUUUGAGGUAGCCACCUGACCCCGUGUGAUGGUGAUGCUGCUUCUUUGCAGCAUUGUUCUUGUUUGUCUCUCGCAUUUUCUUACUCUUGUCCGAUGUCUUGUAGGCCACAAAUGCGGGCUAGUGAUCUCUCAUCUUCUCAAAUCGGCCGAUGAACUCUGGAGUCUUCCCUUUGUUGGCAAACUUUGAUUUCAACUCAUUCUUCCACCUCCUGAAUAGAUCUGCCAUCUUCUUAAGAGCACACGCUUUGACCAGUGGCUCUAUAACUGGCUUAUUCGGAUCCUCCUCUGGCGGUAGGGUGAAAUUUUGCCUUCAGCACGGUCCAAAGAUCAUCUUUCUGCCUAUUGGUGACAUAAUCACCUUCAGGGACGUCGUCACCCUUAGGCUUAUUCCAUUGCUUGAUGCUGAUCGGGAUGUUGUCCCUAACAAUAGCUCCGCAUUCAGUAGAAAAGGCGUCCUUGGUCCGCUUGGGUAGAAUCGGUAGGCCAUCGUUCGCGAGUGUUGUGAUCGUGAAAUUUUCAUCCUUGCGCAACCUUCUCUUCGGGCCUCGUCUCGUAACCGAAGCUUGGCUCGAUGCUAACGUUGCAACAGCUCUCUACUCUGUUCGGUCACCGGAGCUAUCAUCAUGGUAUCCUUCUUCCUCCAACAUUCGGUCACCGGAGACAUCAUGAUCAUGUCCUCCCUCCUCCAUUGUUCGUUCACUGGAGCCGUCAUCCUCUCCUUCCAAACCAUCGAUGGCGUUGAGAUACCAAGAGACCUCAUCACCGUCGCGGAUUAUCUCACCCAACAACUACUCUUGUUCCAAGUUACUUGGAUCCAUAGUUUCUACAAAUAUUACAACAUGGCAAUUAAUAGACAAACAUGAAUGUCCGACGUCCGGACCGCCUCUCUCAUGAAUUUCAAACAACGGAUUCUAUACAAAAAACUUUCUACUAUAAACAAAAAACUUUCUUCUAUGAACAAAAAACCGUGUCUCAUCACUACUUGGAGGGGUGUGUUUAGUUCAUCCAUAAAAGAAUCUUCACAAGUCAUAAAUGUAUGAUCAUAAACUAGAAACAUCUAUCAUGAUAUUUGUAUACAUAAACAAAUGUACAUAGUGAGUAUUAGAAAAUGUACAAAAAUGCAUAGUGAAUAUUUGAAAAUGUACUCGGGGGCGACGACGACAGUGAUGGGCUCGGGGUGACGACGGGCUUGGGACGACGGCGAUGGGCUGGGAGGUGCUGAGACGUCUCCGUCGUAUCUAUAAUUUUUGAUUGUUUCAUGCCAAUAUUCUACAACUUUCAUAUACUUUUGGCAAUUUUUUAUACUAUUUUUGGAACUAACAUAUUGAUCCUGUGCCCAGUGCCAGUUCCUGUUUGUUGCAUGUUUUUUGUUUCGCAGAAUAUCCAUACCAAACGAAGUCCAAACGCAAUAAAAAACCGAAGGUGAUUUUUUAUGGAAUAUUUAUGAUUUUUGGGAAGAAGAAUCAACGCGAAACGAUGCCCGAGGGGGUCACAAGCCCAGGAGGCGCCCCCCUAGCACGCGGAUGGCAAGCUUGUGACCAAUCCCUAAGGCGGUUGGGGCCCUUCAUUCUCCGCAAGAAAGCUAAUAUCCGGAAUAAAAUAGUGUAAAAAUUUCAGCCCAAUCGGAGUUAUGGAUCUCCGAGAAUUUAAGAAACGGUGAAAGGUAGAAUCUGGGAGCGCAGAAACAGAAGGACAGAGAGAGAGGUAUCCAAUCUCGGAGGGGCUCUUGCCCCUCCGCUGCCACGGAGACCAUGGACCAGAGGGGAAACCCUUAUCCCAUCUAGAAAGGAGGUCAAGGAAGAAGAAGAAGGGGGGCUCUCUCCCCCUCUCUCCCGGCGGCGCCGGAACGCUGCCCGAGACAUCAUCGUCUGACGGAGAUCUACACUAACACCUCCGUCAUCUUCACCAACACCUCCAUCUCCUUCCCCCAUCUAUAUUCAGCGGUCCACUCUCCCGCAACCCUCUGUACCCUCUACUUGAACAGGGUGCUUUAUGCUUCAUAUUAUUAUCCGAUGAUGUGUUGCCAUCCUGUGAUGUCUGAGUAGAUUUUCAUUGUCCUAUCGGUGAUUGAUGAAUUGCUAUGAUUGGUUUAAUUUGUUUGUGGUUAUGUUGCUGUCCUUUGGUGCCCAUCAUAUGAGCGCGCACGUGGAUCACACCAUAGGGUUAGUAGUAUGUUGAUAGGACUAUGUAUUGGAGGGCAAGGGUGACAGAAGCUUCAUCCUAGCAUCGAAAUUGAUGCAUACGGGAUUGAAGGGGGAACAAUAUAUUUUAUUGCUAUGGUUGGGUUUUACCUUAAUGAACGUUAGUAGUUGCGGAUGCUUGCUAAUAGUUCCAAUCAUAAGUGCAUAGAAUUCCAAGUAAGGGAUGACAUGCUAGCAGUGGCCUCUCCCACAUAAAACUUGCUAUCGGUCUAGUAACGUAGUCAAUUGCUUAGGGACAAUUCCGCAACUCCUACCACCAAUUUUCCACACUUGUUAAACUAACGUAAUUGUUUCUUAGCAGCCCCUAGUCUUUAUUUACGUGUUCUUUCUUUUCUUGCAAACCUAUCCUAUCACUCCUACAAAGUACUUCUAGUUUCAUACUUGUUCUAGGUAAAGCGAACGUAAAGUGUGCGUAGAGUUGUAUCGGUGGUCGAUAGAACUUGAGCGAAUAUUGAUCCUACCUUUAGCUCCUCGUUGGGUUCGACACUCUUACUUAUCGAGAAAGGCUACAAUUGAUCCCCUAUACUUGUGGGUUAUCAAGACCUUUUUCUGGCGCCGUUGCCGGGAAGCAAUAGCUGUUGGAAAUAUGCCCUAGACACUACAGGAAUCAGCUUCUUUGCCGUCUGCCAUCACAGACGGCAAAGACGAAAUCCCGGACGGCAAAGACAAAACCACAGACGGCAAAGAAUCUCACGGCCGGCAAAAUUUCUGCAUCAGCCUACGACGGCAUAGGACCUUCUUUGCCGUCUGUCCCCCCCCCAAAGCGGACGGCAAAGAGCUUUGCCGUCAGCUUUUCAUAGGAGCAGUCGGCAAAGUGCUCGAGACGGCAGCCGACAGGCAUUGCCUCCAUUAGGGGUUAACGGAGGCUUUGCCGUCUGCCUCCCCCUUAUUCUUUGUCGUCUGCCUCCCCCUUAUUCUUUGCCGUCUGCCUCCUCCUCCCCCCUCCUCUCUUUGCCGUCUGCCUCCUCCUCCCCCCCUCCUGUGUGGCCUCUUCUUUGCCGUCUGCCCACCCUGGAGGCAGACGUCAAAGAGCCUAUAUAGACACCCCACGAUGCAUAGCUGGGUGCCAUGUGGCACCUUUGCCAUCUGCCAGCUGAUGGCACAGGUCUUUGCCAUCAGCUGGCAGACGAUAAAGAGCCCAUAUAGUACCUGUUUUUUUGUUUUAUNNNNNNNNNNNNNNNNNNNNNNNNNNNNNNNNNNNNNNNNNNNNNNNNNNNNNNNNNNNNNNNNNNNNNNNNNNNNNNNNNNNNNNNNNNNNNNNNNNNNUGAUGAGCUCAAUGUGACUAAGGAGUUAGUCACACGAUGACGUGCUACGGAACGAGUAAAGAGACUUACCGGUAACGAGAUUGAACAAGGUAUAGGUAUACCGACGAUCGAAUCUCGGGCAAGUUCUAUACCGACAGACAAAGGGAAUUGUAUACGGGAUUGAUUGAAUCCUUGACAUCGUGGUUCAUCCGAUGAGAUCAUCGUGGAGCAAGUGGCAGCCACCAUGGGUAUCCAGACCCCGCUGAUGGUUAUUGGCCGGAGAGGUGUCUCGGUCAUGUCUACCUGUCUCCCGAACUCGUAGGGUCUACACACAUAAGGUUCGAUGACGCUAGGGUUAUAGGGAAUUAUUAUACGAGGUUACCAAAAGUUGUUCGGAGUCCCGGAUGAGAUCCCGGACGUCACGAGGAGCUCCGGAGGUAAAGAUUGAUAUAUAGGAUGGAUGGUUUUGCACAUCGGAAAUGUUUCAGGAGUCACCGGUAAUGUACCGGGACCACCGGGACGACCGGAAAUGGUCCCGGGGGUCCACCGGGAGGGGCCACCAGCCCCAAGAGGUAGCAUGGGCCAAAAGAGGGAGGGCAACCAGCCCAAAGUGGGCUGGUGCACCUCCCACAAGGAGGCCCAAGGCGCAGGAGGUGGAGAGGGGGGAACCCUAGGCGCUGGUGGGCCUAAGGCCCACCUAGGGGUGCGCCACCUCUCCCCCUGCCCUGGCCACCGCACCUCCCAUCUGGGGGGGCUGCCGCACCACCUAGGGUGGGAACCCUAGGGGUGGCACCCCCUUCCCCUCCUCCUAUAUAUAGUGGGGGUUUUGGGGCUGUUUGACACACAGUUUCCCAUCUCCCUCGGUGCAGCCCUGCCCCCCUUCCUCCUCCUCUCCCACGGUGCUUGGCGAAGCCCUGCCGGGAGACCUCGUCUCUCCAUCGACACCACGCCGUCGUGCUGCCGGAGAUGUCACCCAACCUCUCCCUCCUCCUUGCUGGAUCAAGGUGCGGGAGACCUCACUGGGCUGCACAUGUGUUGAACGCGGAGGUGUCGUGGUUCAGCACUAGAUCGGAAUCAGACCGCAAUCUGAAUCGCCGCGAGUACGACUCCAUCAACCGCGUUCUAGCAACGCUUCCGCUUAGCGAUCUUCGAAUGAAUGAAGAUGCACUCACUCCUCUCUCGUUGCUGGUCUCUCCAUAGGAAGAUCUGAAUAUGUGUAGGAAUUUUUUUGAAUUUAUGCUACGUUACCCAACAAUAGCGUGGGGUGAAUAUUCGUGUGUGCUUGUUUGCUUUAUCACUAAGUAGAUUUAUUUGCUGUUCUAAGUUGUUCUCUAUCGUUAGUUAUGGAUAUGAAACACGAAAUGCCAAAAAAAUUAGGUGUACUUGCUACUCAUGGAGAUGGGGAACCUCCUAAAACCCUCGAUGCUCGUUGUGUGGAUAAUAUUAUGCAGUUCUUUAAUAAUCCUGAGAAAACCAUAUUAAAUUAUAUAAUGGGCUACACGUUCGAUCAACGUGAAUACUUUAGGUAUUAUCGCUUGACUCAAAAAGGGAAACUAUUAUGUGAUCAAAUUCAUAUGCUGAAAUGGUAUGCUUGGGAGCUAUGCUCGAGAUAUGAUAUUACUUGUUGCUCUACGAUGAAGGCUCAACACCUUCCCUUUUCUUAUAAAUUUAAUGCUAAUGAAACCUUGGCUUCUUAUGCUAAUGGUAUAUAUGAUUACUAUGAUGUGGAGCAAAUAGAAGAGUUUCUUUCUUUUAUGGGUGCUUAUGAAAUUGAAGCUCUGUUUAAAAGGUGUGAUGAUAAUGAUGAUCCUGCUUACCGAUCUGAAAAUUUGGUUAUGCUUCGUUAUUGUUAUACUCAUUAUGAAUACUGGUCGUCAACCCGUGCAUUUGCACGGGCUAGAUUAAUAACCUACAAUGGGAUGAAACUUCUGAGACUAUCUUUCAUUCAUUGGGGGUAAAGACAUAUCCUAAAUUUCUAUUGGAAAAAUUAUUCAAGUGUCAUCAUAGUUCAAAUUUAAUGCUUCAAAUAAUAGAAUGUCAAAGGACGCAUAUACUCAAAUAUUCUCUAUCCACAUAAAAAUUAAAUGAUUUAAUCUCCUCUAAUCUUGGUACAUAAUUCCUUCAACACAUUGGAUUUUUUUUCUUUUUGAAUUGUUCAUUCACUUGACAUCUAUUACCAUCAGUCUCUAGAGUAAUUUAGAAGUUUACUUUAGAUAUAUGAUGAAAGAGCCUCACAGAAUAAACAACAAAAAAAUUAGGUCUUUUUAAAGAGAUGACGAAUACAGACACACAUGAGAGAACAUUUUCUAUUACUUUUGUUCUUGUUCCAUAAUUUUAUCAUAAAAGAACAAAAUCCUAGUCUCCAACUGAUAUAAUCAUGCAUUGAAAAAAUAGUCAUUGGGUUGAGCAUCUGUUAGAUGUUUCGAUGGUUGCUCUUUUGUGCAUCCCCUUGGCUUCCAUCAUAUCCUAACGUACUGAUCUAAACAUAUUCAAUUUUAUUAUAUUAGUAAUUUCCUAAAAAUAAUAAAAUACUAAUAAUACGUUAACAUAUAUGGGCUGUUUGAAUGGCAGCUGAUGCCCACCUUACCAAAAUACGGGGUUGACCACCAGCGUGGGUGUCUUUUGGUUGUCAACUAAAUUUUUUAACCUACGCCAAAAGAAUUGUCGCUACUUCAUUUCCUGCACCAAUGGGCUGUUCGUAGCGGCGAAUUUUAUGGCCAGUUUUUCGGCUCAGGCGCGAUUCGGCGUGGCUGGCCUAGGCACCAUCAAAAUGACCGGCCUAUAGACAAAAGUAAACUGUCUGUCUCUAUUUUUAAUUCACAUGAACUUUGACUAAUAUGGUAUAUACAAAAUAUUAUUUGAAUGCAUAUUUUAUUUAGCUAAAUACUGAUACAAUGUUUUAUUUAAUAAAACACUGAUAAAAUAUCGUAUUUACCGAGAUACUCCUUUAAUAUUUAACUAAAAUUGUAUUUAUCAAACCGAACAAACUGACACACAUGCCUCAUUAUCCAUUAUCUACCGUGAGUAGGUGGUUCCUACAAACUAACAUGCAUAUUAUUCCUACAUAUUACUUUGCCGAGUUGUCAUUUUCAAAACUCAACAAUUGCUAUUUAAAUGUUUGUCGAGUACCUGAUAAUAUGAACUUCGCAAAGUUGAUGGUUGUUGACCUCCGUCUAGCCGAGUGAUGUUUGCCGAGAACAGAAAUCGACAAACACAAUGCAUAGUUGUUUCUAGCUAGGACUUGCUAAGUGUGUUGGAAACUCACCGAAUUCGGCGAUUCCGGUCGUGAAAUGGCAUUAACAAAAAACCUUAUCACCAUCACGUCCCAAAAAUGAACUGUGUAAAAAUAAGUAGCUAUAUUUUUUAAUGAAGAUUGUUCUUAUAUACGUGUUUAGUUUUCUUGAUUGUAUGUAAUAUCGACCUUUAUACCAUGCAUGCAUGGUACACUUGAAUUCGGUUUCAUUUAGUCGGUGUAAGCUUUAUUCAUACAUGUACAUAGGUUUGGUCUACUUUGCAAUUAUCUGAUUAUGCCGCAAAAUCUCGAACAAAACAUGUUUAACAUAUUUGUCCUCUCAAAACCAAACAUGCGUUUAUCGUAUUUUUAAGAAAUAUUAAUUUACAAAAGGUAUAGUUCAUGGACUAAUGUCACAUGUAAUUUUUACUCAUUAACAAUGAAAAUUGAGUAUCCUAGCAACCAGAAAAGCAGUUUGAGCGAAGUAGUCAACUGUAACCUCUAAUGCAUUAGGCAAUGUAAAGUCUUGGCAGUCCUGGUGAGAUAUAUAAUUCAUGCAUCGGCCUAUUUCGCAAGGCGGGGUUGCCAUAGUUCCGCUGUAAUUCACUCUUGUUCAUCCAGAAAAGGUUAAUUAGAAUACCUUCAGUGUCACAAUCUGAUGCCUUUUGUCGAUAAGAUAAAAAAAUGUGUAGAUGCAAAGUGUAUUACAUGGAACACGAACAUUUUUUUCUUGCGUAUAAUAACCUGUGCCAAACAAUGUGCUACCCUGGAAAACAAUUGAUUGAUCCUCCUUCACAGAAAUUACAUAGAACAUAGAGAACAUACCUUAUUAAAAUUGAAUCCCUGUAGAAAAUAUAAUAUGUUUGGAACCUGAAAAAAAGUCGAGUCAGGUGAAAUUCUUAUAACACCCAUGAAAUCAGGCCCAAUAUCGAAUGCGAUAACAAAAUGCACAUAUAGGAUAAGCCGUCAAAAGCACAGUCCGAGUAUAAGAGGUCAUAAAAACAAACUGGAUUAAAAUGUAUAUUUUUUACUCUGCAUGCCCCAAACAGACAAUGAUCUAAUCAACCGAAUUGUAUAUUUUACUACAUGUCAGAGAUUAAGAAAAAGGGAGAGGGUCAAGGGAUAUUGGUGGUAUAAAAUAUGAGAAACUGAGACAAAAAGACAGCUGAUAUGUGCACUAAAAAUGUGAAACUUGUUUAAUUGAGUGAAUCUCCAUGCCCCCAAACAGGUAAAUAUCAUAGAGAGAUACAUGUUAAAAAUUCAUUACAAUUAAAUACACCAAAAAAUAUAUUAUACUACCCCAGAUCAAAACCAAACCAUUUGCUUAAUGGUUAGCUUAUCACCUCGUCAUUGGCUGCGAUGGUGCCACGGCCAAGAAGAGCUUACCAUAUGUACCCCGGCUAGAUAGGUUAGACAAUGCUAGAUUUCACACGCUGCAUGGAGAGAGAAGCAUUGUAUUAACCCAAUCCAAUGGCUGGCAGGGCGAUGUUUGAUAUAUUAUCCAGUGCAUAGUGAAAGGUCCUGCACUGGACCUCAUCACCCAAUUUUAUAUAGCGCGUGGAGGCAGCCAAUUAUAUAAUCAGCUCAUGAUGUUCAUCAUGUACAUGCAAAUCUCGCUUUCCUAUUUGCCGGUGGAUAUAACUUGCCGCGAUCUCUUCGUCAGCUGCAACACACACAGAGAGAGGGACAUGCUGAUGCCUAAUUGCAUCAGAAGGAAGAUACCAAGGCCAACGUGCCAUGGUGCAGAUAGAUUUAGAUGUGAUUUGCGGCUGGAUCUAACACGCCGUCGAUGAAAGGAAAGACAUGUUACUCUAACAUGCCUAUAUGCCCUUCCACCUAUGAUUGGCACCAGAUCGCCAUGAAAGAGGCGAUGAAGGCUUAGACCAACAACUCUUCGUUAGGGAUUAACUAAAGGCGAUUUCUUGAGAUAACGAUCUUGUUGGUAGGAAAAUAGAUGACGGCUUUUUUUUUGUUUUGGAAGAGGUCAAUCUGGUAGUCCUUCCACGGCAAGAGUCUAAUGGAAAUAAUUUAUGGUUUUAGAUUUUAUCUAUGAAUAAUUGAGGCUUACUUAACGUGGAGACUUGAGAAUGUCUUUGUUACGUGUAGGCUGGGUCAGGUUGGUAGUUUUUCCCACGGCAAUACUCUAGAGGCCGACCAGUUUUUUUAGUUAUUUUACUGCAAGAGCAAAAGAAAUAAUAUAUAUGUUUUUGCCUGGGACUAAUUAACAUGCGCGAUUGAAAAUAUCAGUUACGUGUAGGCUGGGUCAGUCAGGUAGGCUACUUUUUUCUACCGCAGUAGUAACAUAAAAUUAAAUGGUCUAGAAAAAUACUGACUUAGGAUGUUAUGAUUGGAUCUGCACCGUAAUAAUUCGGUCCCACAAGAUGAACGGCUCGUAAAAUCUAAUUAACGUGAGAAUUUUUAAGGAGUCUCUAAUUAGUAUAAGUAUAGAUAAUGCCCAUAUUUAUCGAUUUAUGGAGAAAUUCUACGAUGCCCAAGAAGAGACUAAUAUUUUGCAGGAAACUAUGGAAGAAGAAAAUGCUGAUACUGUGAGCUCAUUAGAUGAAAAAGAUGACGAGGAGAGCGAAGAACAAAAGGAGGAAGAGCGGACUAGCUACCCGUGCCCACCUUCUAAUAAGAAUAACUCUUCAACUCAUACAUUGUUUAAUUUCCCUUCGAAGGAUGAAUGCUAUGUUUAUUGCUAUGAUCCCUUGGAUUUGUUUGAAAUAUCCCUUUUUGAUGAACUUGAUGCUAGCUAUGAUUAUGGCCAUGAUGCCAAUAUGAAUGAUGCUUAUGAAGAUGAACUUGCUAUAGUUCCUUAUGUUAAACAUGAAAUUGUUGCUAUCGCACCCACUUAUGAUAGUCCUAUUAUCUUUUUGAACUCUCCCAACUACACUAUAUCGGAGAAGUUUGCUCUUAUUAGGGAUUACAUAGAUGGGUUGCCUUCUACUAUUACACAUGAUGAUUUUUAUGAAUAUAAUAUGGAUAUGCUUGCUGCUCCUACUUGCAAUUAUUAUGACAGAGGAACUACAUCUCCACCUCUCUAUGUUUCCAAAACAAUAAAUAGCAAGAAACUGCUUAUGCUAUGUAUUGGCCUUUACUUGAUGUGCAUGAAUUGUUCUUUUAUGACAUGCCAAUGCAUAGGAAGAGAGUCAGACUUCGUCAUUGCAUGAUAUAUGUUACCUUCUGCUCACUACUAAAUUACAAAUCAUUGUCAAUUGAAAUUGGCUUUGAUAUACCUUGGGAUCCGGGUGGAUCCAUUACUUGAGCACUUUAUGCCUAGCUUAAUGGCUUUAAAGAAAGCGCUGCCUGGGAGACAACCCGGAAGUUUUAGAGAGUCAUUUAUUUCUGUUGAGUGCUUUUAUAUAGUUUAAAAACAAAAAAAAUAUAGAGGGGAGCUUAAAACUUUUUCAAAAAGAGAAGCGAUUGAAAGGUGAUGCAUUGUGGAAGUGAGGGUCGACCUUGAACACUUGUGUUCAUGCUCAUGGAAACAAUGUAGAAUUCUUCAUGGAAGUUUCUCGCACAAAUAAUUAUGCCUUUGUAAAUUUCCAUUGUAUUAUAAAAAUAAUGUGCCAAGUAAAGCCUUUAUGAUUAGUUUGGGUGAUAGUUGUUUGAUCAUGCUGAAAAAGACAGAAACUUUGUGCUCACAAAAUUAUUUUUAAUACCUAUCCACAAAGAGAUUUUGAGUUGAUUCUUUUUGCUGUUGAUUGAUAUGAAAAUUGCCCUAAUUUUCAUAAUUUUUCAGAAUUUUUGGAGUAUCAUAAGUAUGGCAUACGUUCAGAUUACUACAGACUGUUCUGUUUUUGACAGAUUCUGUUUUCUAUGCAUUGCUCUCUUAUUUUGAUGAAUCUAUGGGUAGUAUCGGGGGGUAUGAACCAUGGUGAAGUUGGAUUACAGUAGAUAUAAUUCUAAUAUGAAUUUGAAAUGAGUACACAACAGUACUUAAAGUGGUGAUUUACUUUAUUAUACUAACGGAUCUCACGAAGGUUUUGUUGAGUUUUGUGUGAUUGAAGUUUUCAAGUUUUGGGUGACACCACGAUGGAUGAAGGAAUAAGGAGAGGCAAGAGCCUAAGCUUGGGGAUGCCCGAGCAUCUAAGCUUGGGGAUGCCCCGGAAGGAAUCCCCUCUUUCGUCUACAAUCUAUCGGUAAUUUUACUCGGAGCUAUAUUUUUAUUCGUCACAUGAUAUGUGCAAAUGCUUGGAGCGUCUUUUGUGUUUAUUUUUCCUUUUUCUUUUAUGCACCAUGCUGGUAUGAGAUAGUCCUUGGUUGAUUUAUAGAAUGCUCUUUGCACUUCACUUAUAUCUUUCGAGUAUGGAUUUAUAGAAUGCUUAUGUGCUUCACUUAUAUCAUUUGAAGUUUGGAUUGCCUGUUUCCCUACACAUAGAAAACCGCCAUUUGUAGAAUGCUCUUUUGCUUCACUUAUAUUUUUUAGAGCGGGGCCUAUAUUUUGUAGAAAGAAUUAAAAUCUCAUGCUUCACUUAUACCUAUUUAGAGAGUUAACAGGAGUUGGUCAUUCACAUGGUUAGUCAUAAAAUCCUACAUAAACUUGUAGAUCACUGAAUAUGAUAUGUUUGAUUCCUUGCAAUAGUUUUGCGACAUGAAGAUGUGAUAUUAGAGUGAUGCUAGUGAAUAAUUGUGUAUUCAUAGAAAUACUUGUGUUAAGGUUUGUGAUUCCUGUAGCAUGCAGGUAUGGUGAACCGUUAUGUGACGAGGUCGGAGCAUGAUUUAUUUAUUGAUUGUCAUCCUUUGUGUGGAGGUCGGGACCGCGCGAUGGUUAACUCCUACCAACCCUUCCCCUAGGAGCAUGCGUGUAGUACCUUGUUUCGAUGACUAAUAGACUUUUGCAAUAAGUAUGUGAGUUCUUUAUGACUAAUGUUGAGUUCAUGGAUUAUACGCAAUCUCACCCUUCCACCAUUGCUAGCCUCUCUAGUACCGCGCAACUUUCGCCGGUGCAUUACACCCACCAUAUACCCUUCCUCAAAACAGCCACCAUACCUACCUAUUAUGGCAUUUCCAUAGCCAUUCUUAGAUAUAUUUCCAUGCAACUUCCAUCGUUCCAUUUAUUAUGACACGCACCAUCAUUGUCAUAUUGCUUUGCAUGAUCGUAAGAUAGCUAGCAUGAUGUUUUCAUGGCUUGUCCGUUUUUUGAUGUCAUUGCUACGCUAGAUCAUUGCACAUCCCGGUACACCGCCGGAGGCAUUCAUAUAGAGUCAUAUUUUGUUCUAAAUAUCGAGUUGUAAGUAAAUAAAAGUGUGAUGAUCAUCAUUAUUAGAGCAUUGUCCCAUGUGAGGAAGUAAAAAGAGGCCAAAGAAGCCCACCAAAAAAAGAGAAAAAAAAUAAAAAAAUGAGAGAAAAGAGAGAAGGGACAAUGCUACUAUCCUUUACCACACUUGUGCUUCAAAGUAGCACCAUGAUCUUCAUGAUAGAGAUUCUCCUAUGUUGUCACUUUCAAAUACUAGUGAGAAAUUUUCAUUAUAGUACUUGGCUUGUAUAUUCCAAUGAUGGGCUUCCUAAAAUUGCCCUAGGUCUUCGUGAGCAAGCGAGUUGGAUGCACACCCACUAGUUUCAUUUUGAACUUUCAUACACUUCUAGCUCUUGUGCAUCUGUUGCAUGGCAAUCCCUACUCACUCACAUUGAUAUCUAUUGAUGGGCAUCUCCAUAGCCCGUUGAUAUGCCUAGUUGAUGUGAGACUAUCUCCUCCUUUUUGUCUUCCCCACAGCCACCAUAUUCUAUUCCAACUACAAUGCUAUGUCCAUGGCUCACGCUCAUGUAUUGCGUGAAAGUUGAAAAAGGUUUGAGAACACUAAAGUAUGAAACAAUUGCUUGGCUAAAACCGGGGUUGUGCAUGAUUUAAAUACGUUGUGUGGGGAAGAUGGAGCAUAACCAGACUUUAUGAUUUUGUAGGGAUAACUUUCUUUGACCACGAUAUUUUGAGAAGACAUGAUUCCUUUGUUAGUAUGCUUGAAAUAUUAUUAUCUUUAUGUCAAAUGGUAGGCUAUUGCUUCGAAUCACUCGUGUUUUAGUAUUCAUGCCAUGAUUAGAUUAUAUAAUCAACAUUAUGCUAGGUAGCAUUCCACAUCAAAAAUUAUCUUUUUUAUCAUUUACCUACUCUGUUGGGGAACGUCGCAUGGGAAACAAAAAUUUUCCUACGCGCACGAAGACCUAUCAUGGUGAUGUCCAUCUACGAGAGGGGAUGAGUGAUCUACGAACCCUUGUAGAUCGUAUAGCAGAAGCGUUAGUGAACGCGGUUGAUGUAGUGGAACGUCCUCACGUCCCUCGAUCCGCCCCGCGAACAAUCCCGCGAUCAGUCCCACGAUCUAGUACCGAACGGACGACACCUCCGCGUUCAGCACACGUACAGCUCGACGAUGAUCUCGGCCUUCUUGGUCCAGCAAGAGAGACGGAGAGGUAGAAGAGUUCUCCGGCAGCGUGACGGCGCUCCGGAGGUUGGUGAUGACCUUGUCUCAGCAGGGCUCCGCCCGAGCUCCGCAGAAACGCGAUCUAGAGGAAAAACCGUGGAGGUAUGUGGUCGGGCUGCCGUGGAAAAGUCGUCUCAAAUCAGCCCUAAAACCUCCGUAUAUAUAGGUGGGAGGGAGGGGACCUUGCCUUGGGGCUCAAGGAGCCCCAAGGGGGUCGGCCGAGUCCAAGGGGGGAGGACUCCCCCCCCCCCAAACCGAGUUGGACUUGGUUUGGUGGGAGGGAGUCCCCCUUCCUUCCCACCUCCUCCUUUUUUUUUCCUUUCUCUUGAUUUUCUCUUCUUGGCGCAUAGAGCCCUUUUGGGCUGUCCCACCAGCCCACUAAGGGCUGGUGUGCCACCCUCAAGGCCUAUGGGCUUCCCCGGGGUGGGUUGCCCCCCCCCCCCCGGUGAACUCCCGGAACCCAUUCGUCAUUCCCGGUACAUUCCCGGUAACUCCGAAAACCUUUCGGUAAUCAAAUGAGGUCAUCCUAUAUAUCAAUCUUCGUUUCCGGACUAUUCCGGAAACCCUCGUGACGUCCGUGAUCUCAUCUGGGACUCCGGACAACAUUCGGUAACCAACCAUAUAACUCAAAUACGCAUAAAAUAACGUCGAAUCUUAAGUGUGCAGACCCUGCGGGUUCGAGAACUAUGUAGACAUGACCCGAGAGACUCCUCGGUCAAUAUCCAAUAGCGGGACCUGGAUGCCCAUAUUGGAUCCUACAUAUUCUACGAAGAUCUUAUCGUUUGAACCUCAGUGCCAAGGAUUCAUAUAAUCCCGUAUGUCAUUCCCUUUGUCCUUCGGUAUGUUACUUGCCCGAGAUUCGAUCGUCAGUAUCCGCAUACCUAUUUCAAUCUCGUUUACCGGCAAGUCUCUUUACUCGUUCCGUAAUACAAGAUCCCGCAACUUACACUAAGUUACAUUGCUUGCAAGGCUUGUGUGUGAUGUUGUAUUACCGAGUGGGCCCCGAGAUACCUCUCCGUCACACGGAGUGACAAAUCCCAGUCUUGAUCCAUACUAACUCAACUAACACCUUCGGAGAUACCUGUAGAGCAUCUUUAUAGUCACCCAGUUACGUUGCGACGUUUGAUACACACAAAGCAUUCCUCCGGUGUCAGUGAGUUAUAUGAUCUCAUGGUCAUAGGAAUAAAUACUUGACACGCAGAAAACAGUAGCAACAAAAUGACACGAUCAACAUGCUACGUCUAUUAAUUUGGGUCUAGUCCAUCACGUGAUUCUCCUAAUGACGUGAUCCAGUUAUCAAGCAACAACACCUUGUUCAUAAUCNUUAGUAUCCGUAUACCUAUUUCAAUCUCGUUUACCGGUAAGUCUCUUUACUCGUUCCGUAAUACAAGAUCCCGCAACUUACACUAAGUUACAUUGCUUGCAAGGCUUGUGUGUGAUGUUGUAUUACCGAGUGGGCCCCGAGAUACCUCUCCGUCACACGGAGUGACAAAUCCCAGUCUUGAUCCAUACUAACUCAACUAACACCUUCGGAGAUACCUGUAGAGCAUCUUUAUAGUCACCCAGUUACGUUGCGACGUUUGAUACACACAAAGCAUUCCUCCGGUGUUAGUGAGUUAUAUGAUCUCAUGGUCAUAGGAAUAAAUACUUGACACGCAGAAAACAGUAGCAACAAAAAUGACACGAUCAACAUGCUACGUCUAUUAGUUUGGGUCUAGUCCAUCACAUGAUUCUCCUAAUGACGUGAUCCAGUUGUCAAGCAACAACACCUUGUUCAUAAUCAGAAGACACUGACUAUCUUUGAUCAACUGGCUAGCCAACUAGAGGCUUGCUAGGGACGGUGUUUUGUCUAUGUAUCCACACAUGUAAAUGAGUCUUCAUUCAAUACAAUUAUAGCAUGGAUAAUAAACGAUUAUCUUGAUACAGGAAUUAUAAUAAUAACUAUAUUUAUUAUUGCCUCUAGGGCAUAAUUCCAACAGUCUCCCACUUGCACUAGAGUCAAUAAUCUAGCCCUCACAUCAUCAUGUGAAUUACAUUGUAAUAAAUCUAACACCCAUACAGUUCUGGUGUUGAUCAUGCUUUGGCCGUGGAAGAGGUUUAGUCAGCGGGUCUGCUACAUUCAGAUCCGUGUGCACUUUGCAUAUAUUCAUGUCCUCUCCCUCGACGUAGUCGCGGAUGAGGUUGAAGCGUCGUUUGAUGUGUCUGGUCUUCUUGUGAAACCGUGAUUCCUUUGCUAAGGCAAUGGCACCAGUGUUGUCACAGAACAAGGUUAUUGGAUUCAGUGCGCUUGGCACCACUCCAAGAUCCGUCAUGAACUGCUUCAUCCAGACACCCUCCUUAGCCGCCUCCGAGGCAGCCAUGUACUCCGCUUCACAUGUAGAAUCUGCUACGACGCUUUGCUUGGAACUGCACCAGCUUACUGCACCCCCAUUAAGAAUAAAUACGUAUCCGGUUUGCGACUUAGAGUCGUCCGGAUCUGUGUCAAAGCUUGCAUCGACGUAACCUUUUACGGCGAGCUCUUCGUCACCUCCAUACACGAGAAACAUCUCCUUAGUCCUUUUCAGGUACUUCAGGAUAUUCUUGACCGCUGUCCAGUGAUCCACUCCUGGAUUACUCUGGAACCUACCUGCCAUACUUAUGGCCAGGCUAACAUCCGGUCUAGUGCACAGCAUCGCAUACAUGAUAGAACCUAUGGCUGAAGCAUAGGGGACGGAGCGCAUAUGCUCUCUAUCUUCAUCAGUUGCUGGGCACUGAGUCUUACUCAAUCUCGUACCUUGUAGAACUGGCAAGAACCCUUUCUUGGACUGUUCCAUUUUGAACCUCUUCAAAACUUUAUCAAGGUAUGUGCUUUGUGAAAGUCCUAUCAGGCGUUUUGAUCUAUCCCUAUAGAUCUUAAUGCCUAGAAUGUAAGCAGCUUCUCCUAGGUCCUUCAUAGAGAAACUUUUAUUCAAGUAAUCCUUUAUGCUCUCUAAAAACUCUACGUUGUUUCCAAUCAGUAAUAUGUCAUCCACAUAUAAUAUUAGAAACGCCACAGAGCUCCCACUCACUUUCUUGUAAAUACAAGAUUCUCCAACCACUUGUAUAAACCCAAAUGCUUUGAUCACCUCAUCAAAGCGUUUGUUCCAACUCCGAGAUGCUUGCACCAGUCCAUAAAUGGAUCGCUGGAGCUUGCACACCUUGUUAGCAUUCUUAGGAUCGACAAAACCUUCGGGUUGUAUCAUAUACAACUCUUCCUUAAGGAAACCGUGAAGGAACGCCGUUUUGACAUCCAUCUGCCAGAUUUCAUAAUCGAAAAAUGCAGCUAUUGCUAACAUGAUUCUGACGGACUUAAGCAUCGCUACGGGUGAGAAAUUCUCAUCGUAGUCAACUCCUUGAACUUGUGAAAAACCCUUUGCCACAAGUCGAGCUUUAUAAACGGUCACAUUACCGUCAGCGUCCGUCUUCCUCUUAAAAAUCCAUUUGUUCUGAAUGGCCUUGCGGCCCUCAGGCAGUACCUCCAAAGUCCACACUUUGUUCUCAUACAUGGAUCCUAUCUCGGACUUCAUGGCUUCCAGCCAUUUGUUGGAAUCUGGGCCCACCAUUGAUUCUUCAUAAUUCGCAGGUUCAUUGUUGUCUAACAACAUGAUUGAUAAGACGGGAUUACCGUACCACUCUGGAGCAGCACGUGGUCUCGUCGACCUGCGUGGUUCGACAGAAACUUGAACUGGAGUUUCAUGAUCAUCAUCAUUAACUUCCUCCUCAACCGGUGUCGCAAUGACAGAGGUUUCCCCUUGCCGUGCGCCACCAUCCAGAGGGAUGAGAGGUUCGACAACCUCGUCAAGUUCUAUCUUCCUCCCACUCAAUUCUCUUGAGAGAAACUCCUUCUCGAGAAAAGCUCCGUUUUUAGCAACAAACACUUUGCCCUCGGAUUUGAGAUAGAAGGUGUACCCAACUGUCUCUUUUGGGUAACCUAUGAAGACGCACUUUUCCGCUUUGGGUUCCAGCUUUUCAGGCUGAAGCUUUUUGACAUAAGCAUCACAUCCCCAAACUUUAAGAAACGACAACUUUGGCCUUUUGCCAUACCACAGUUCGUAUGGUGUCGUCUCAACGGAUUUUGAUGGUGCCCUAUUUAAAGUGAAUGCAGCUGUUUCUAAUGCAUAGCCCCAAAAUGAUAACGGCAAAUCAGUAAGAGACAUCAUAGAUCGCACCAUCUCUAAUAGAGUACGAUUACGACGUUCGGACACACCAUUACGCUGUGGUGUUCCAGGCGGUGUUAACUGUGAAACAAUUCCACAUUGUCUUAAGUGAGCACCAAACUCGAAACUCAGAUAUUCACCCCCACGAUCAGACCGUAGGAACUUCAUCUUCUUGUUACGAUGAUUUUCCACUUCACUCUGAAAUUGCUUGAACUUUUCAAAUGUUUAGGACUUGUGCUUCAUCAAGUAGACAUAACCAUAUCUACUUUAAUCUUCAGUGAAGGUGAGAAAAUAACGAUAUCCGCCGCGUGCCUCCACGCUCAUCGGACCACACACAUCGGUAUGUAUGAUUUCCAACAAGUCACUUGCACGCUCCAUUGUUCCUGAGAAUGGAGUCUUAGUCAUCUUGCCCAUGAGGCAUGGUUCGCACGUGUCAAGUGAAUCAAAGUCAAGUGACUCCAAAAGUCCAUCAACAUGGAGUUUCUUCAUGCGCUUUACACCAAUAUGACCUAAGCGGCAGUGCCACAAAAAUAUGGCGCUAUCAUUGUUAACUCUAACUCUUUUGGUCUCAAUGUUAUGUAUAUGCGUAUCGCUAUCAAGAUUCAAUAUGAACAAUCCUCUCACAUUCGGUGCAUGACCAUAAAAGAUGUUACUCAUAGAAAUAGAACAACCAUUAUUCUCUGACUUAAAAGAGUAACCGUCUCGCAAUAAACAAGAUCCAGAUAUAAUGUUCAUGCUCAACGCAGGCACUAAAUAACAAUGAUUUAAGUUCAUCACUAAUCCUGACGGUAACUGAAGUGACACUGUGCCGACGGCGAUUGCAUCAACCUUGGAACCAUUUCCUACGCGCAUCGUCACUUCAUCUUUCGCCAGCCUUCGCCUAUUCCACAGUUCCUGUUUCGAGUUGCAAAUAUGAGCAACAGAACCGGUAUCGAAUACCCAGGCACUACUACGAGAGCCGGUUAAGUACACAUCAAUAACAUGUAUAUCAAAUAUACCUGAUUUUUCUUUGCCCGCCUUCUUAUCUGCCAGAUACUUGGGGCAAUUGCGCUUCCAAUGACCCAUACCCUUGCAAUAGUAACACUCCGUUUCCGGCUUAGGUCCAGCUUUGGGUUUCUUCGUCGGAUUGGCAACAGGCUUGCCGCUCUUCUUCGAAUUUCCCUUCUUGCCUUUGCUGUUUCUCUUGAAACUAGUGGUCUUAUUCACCAUCAACACUUGAUGCUCUUUACGGAGUUCAGACUCUGCGACUUUCAGCAUCGCAAACAACUCGCCGGGAGACUUGUUCAUCCCUUGCAUGUUGUAGUUCAACACAAAGCCUUUAUAGCUUGGUGGCAGUGAUUGAAGGAUUCUGUCAGUGAUAGCUUCUUGCGGGAGUUCAAUCCCCAGCUCAGCUAGAUGGUUUGAGUACCCAGACAUUUUGAGCACAUGUUCACUGACAGAUGAGUUUUCCUCCAUCUUGCAAGCAUAGAAUUUAUCGGAGGUCUCAUACCUCUCGAUCCGGGCGUUCUUCUGAAAGAUAAAUUCCAACUCCUGGAACAUCUCAAAUGCUCCAUGACGCUCAAAGCGACGUUGAAGUCCCGGUUCUAAGCCAUACAAGACUGCACAUUGAACUAUUGAGUAGUCCUCCUUACGUGCUAACCAAGCGUUCUUAACAUCUUGAUCAGCCGUAGCGGGUGGUUCAUCUCCUAACGCAGCAUUAAGGACAUAAUCCUUCUUCCCAGCUUGUAAGAUUAGCUUAAGAUUACGAGCCCAGUCUACAAAGUUGCUUCCAUCAUCUUUCAACUUAGCUUUCUCUAGGAACGUAUUAAAAUUCAGGAUGACUGUCGCGUGAGCCAUGAUCUACAACACAAAUAUUUCAAAGUGGACUUAGACUAUGUUUAAGAUAAUUAGAGUUCAACUUAAUCAAAUUAUUCACUAAACUCCCACUCAAAAAGUACAUCUCUCUAGUCAUUUGAGUGGUUCAUGAUCCACUUACACUAGCUCAAGUCCGAUCUUCACGUGAGUUGAGUAUAGUUUCAGUGGUAAGCAUCCCUAUGCUAAUCAUAUCAUCUAUAUGAUUCAUGAUCGACCUUUCGGUCUCAUGUGUUCCGAGGCCAUGUCUGCACAUGCUAGGCUCGUCAAGCUUAACCCGAGUAUUCCGCGUGCGCAACUGUUUUGCACCCGUUGUAUGUGAACGUUGAGUCUAUCACACCCGAUCAUCACGUGGUGUCUCGAAACGACGAACUGUAGCAACGGUGCACAGCCGGGGAGAACACAAUUUCGUAUUGAAAUUUUAGUGAGAGAUCACCUCAUAAUGCUACCGACGUUUUAAGCAAAAUAAGGUGCAUAAAAGGAUUAACAUCACAUGCAAUUCAUAAGUGACAUGAUAUGGCAAUCAUCACGUGCUUCUUGAUCUCCAUCACCAAAGCACCGGCACGAUCUUCUUGUCACCGGCGCCACACCAUGAUCUCCAUCAACGUGUUGCCAUCGGGGUUGUCGUGCUACUCAUGCUAUUACUACUAAAGCUACAUCCUAGCAAAAUAGUAAACGCAUCUGCAAGCACACACGUUAGUAUAAAGACAACCCUAUGGCUCCUGCCGGUUGCCGUACCAUCGACGUGCAAGUCGAUAUUUCUAUUACAACAUGAUCAUCUCAUACAUCCAAUAUAUCACAUCACAUCAUUGGCCAUACCACAUCACAAGCAUACCCUGCAAAAACAAGUUAGACGUCCUCUAAUUUUGUUGUUGCAUGUUUUACGUGGUGACCAUGGGUAUCUAGUAGGAUCGCAUCUUACUUACGCAAACACCACAACGGAGAUAUAUGAGUUGCUAUUUAACCUCAUCCAAGGACCUCCUCGGUCAAAUCCGAUUCAACUAAAGUUGGAGAAACCGACACUUGCCAGUCAUCUUUGAGCAACGGAGUUACUCGUAACGAUGAAACCAGUCUGUCGUAAGCGUACGAGUAAUGUCGGUCCAAGCCGCUUCAAUCCAACAAUACCGCGGAAUCAAGAAAAGACUAAGGAGGGCAGCAAAACGCACAUCACCGCCCACAAAAACUUUUGUGUUAUACUCGAGAAGACAUCUACGCAUGAACCUAGCUCAUGAUGCCACUGUUGCGGAACGUCGCAUGGGAAACAAAAAUUUUCCUACGCGCACAAAGACCUAUCAUGGUGAUGUCCAUCUACGAGAGGGGAUGAGUGAUCUACGUACCCUUGUAGAUCAUAUAGCAGAAGCGUUAGUGAACGCGGUUGAUGUAGUGGAACGUCCUGAUGUCCCUCGAUCCGCCCCGCGAACAAUCCCGCGAUCAGUCCCACGAUCUAGUACCGAACGGACGGCACCUCCGCGUUCAGCACACGUACAGCUCGACGAUGAUCUCGGCCUUCUUGAUCCAGCAAGAGAGACGGAGAGGUAGAAGAUUUCUCCGGCAGCGUGACGGCGCUCCGGAGGUUGGUGAUGACCUUGUCUCAGCAGGGCUCCGCCCGAGCUCCGGAGAAACGCGAUCUAGAGGAAAAACCGUGGAGGUAUGUGGUCGGGCUGCCGUGGAAAAGUCGUCUCAAAUCAGCCCUAAAACCUCCGUAUAUAUAGGUGGGAGGGAGGGGACCUUGCCUUGGGGCUCAAGGAGCCCCAAGGGGGUCGGCCGAGUCCAAGGGGGGAGGACUCCCCCCCCCCAAACCGAGUUGGACUUGGUUUGGUGGGAGGGAGUCCCCCUUCCUUCCCACCUCCUCCUUUUUUUUCCUUUCUCUUGAUUUUCUCUUCUUGGCGCAUAGAGCCCUUUUGGGCUGUCCCACCAACCCACUAAGGGCUGGUGUGCCACCCUCAAGGCCUAUGGGCUUCCCCGGGGUGGGUUGCCCCCCCCCNNNNNNNNNNNNNNNNNNNNNNNNNNNNNNNNNNNNNNNNNNNNNNNNNNNNNNNNNNNNNNNNNNNNNNNNNNNNNNNNNNNNNNNNNNNNNNNNNNNNNNNNNNNNNNNNNNNNNNNNNNNNNNNNNNNNNNNNNNNNNNNNNNNNNNNNNNNNNNNNNNNNNNNNNNNNNNNNNNNNNNNNNNNNNNNNNNNNNNNNNNNNNNNNNNNNNNNNNNNNNNNNNNNNNNNNNNNNNNNNNNNNNNNNNNNNNNNNNNNNNNNNNGGUAAGUCUCUUUACUCGUUCCGUAAUACAAGAUCCCGCAACUUACACUAAGUUACAUUGCUUGCAAGGCUUGUGUGUGAUGUUGUAUUACCGAGUGGGCCCCGAGAUACCUCUCCGUCACACGGAGUGACAAAUCCCAGUCUUGAUCCAUACUAACUCAACUAACACCUUCGGAGAUACCUGUAGAGCAUCUUUAUAGUCACCCAGUUAUGUUGCGACGUUUGAUACACACAAAGCAUUCCUCCGGUGUCAGUGAGUUAUAUGAUCUCAUGGUCAUAGGAAUAAAUACUUGACACGCAGAAAACAGUAGCAACAAAAAUGACACGAUCAACAUGCUACCUCUAUUAGUUUGGGUCUAGUCCAUCACCUGAUUCUCCUAAUGACGUGAUCCAGUUCUCAAGCAACAACACCUUGUUCAUAAUCGGAAGACACUGACUAUCUUUGAUCAACUGGCUAGCCAACUAGAGGCUUGCUAGGGACGGUGUUUUGUCUAUGUAUGCACACAUGUAGAUGAGUCUUCAUUCAAUACAAUUAUAGCAUGGACAAUAAACGAUUAUCUUGAUACAGGAAUUAUAAUAAUAACUAUAUUUAUUAUUGCCUCUAGGGCAUAAUUCCAACAUACUCGAGGACGAGCAGAAAUUAAGCUUGGGGAUGCUGAUACGUCUCCGUCGUAUCUAUAAUUUUUGAUUGUUUCAUGCCAAUAUUCUACAACUUACAUAUACUUUUGGCAACUUUUUAUACUAUUUUUGGGACUAAAAUAUUGAUCCAGUUCCCAGUGCCAGUUCCUGUUUGUUGCAUGUUUUUUGUUUCGUAUAAUAUCCAUACCAAACGAAGUCCAAACACAAUAAAAAACCUAUGGUGAUUUUUUAUGGAAUAUUUAUGAUUUUUGGGAAGAAGAAUCAACGCAAAACGAUGCCCGAGGGGGUCACAAGCCUAGGAGGUGCCCCCUAGGGCACGGCAGGCAGGCUUGUGACCAAUCCCUAAGGCGGUUGGGGCCCUUCUUUCGCCGCAAGAAAGCUAAUAUCCGGAAGAAAAUCGUGUUAAAAUCAGCCCACUUGGAGUUAUGGAUCUCCGGGAAUUUUAAGAAACGGUGAAAGGCAGAAUCUGGGAGCGCACAAACAGAAGGACACACAGAGAGAGAUCCAAUCUCGGAGGGGCUCUCGCCCCUCCGCCGCCAUGGAGACCAUGGACCAGAGGGGAAACCCUUCUCCCAUCUAGGGAGGAGGUCAAGGAAGAAGAAGAAGGGGGGCUCCCUCCCCCUCUCUCCCGGCGGUGCCGGAACGCCGCCCGGGACAUCAUCGUGUGACAGCGAUCUACACCAACACGUCCGUCAUCUUCACCAACACCUCCUUCUCCUUCCCCCAUCUAUAUUCAGCGGUCCACUCUCCCGCAACCCGCUGUACCCUCUACUUGAACAUGGUGCUUUGUGCUUCAUAUUAUUAUCCGAUGAUGUGUUGCCAUCCUAUGAUGUCUGAGUAGAUUUUUGUUGUCCUAUCGGUUAUUGAUGAAUUGGUGUGAUUGGUUUGAUUUGCUUGUGGUUAUGUUGCUGUCCUUUGGUGCCCAUCAUAUGAGCGCGCGCGUGGAUCACACGAUAGGGUUAGUAUUAUGUUGAUAGGACUAUGUAUUGGAGGGGAAGGGUGAUAGAAGCUUCAGCCUAGCAUAGAAACUGAUGCAUGCGGGAUUGAAGGGGGCCCAAUAUAUCUUAUUGCUAUGGUUGGGUUUUAACUUAUUGAACGUUAGUAGUUGCGGAUGCUUGCUAAUAGAUCCAAUCAUAAGUGCAUAGAAUUUCAAGUAAGGGAUGACAUGCUAGCAGUGGCCUCUCCCACAUAAAACUUGCUAUCAGUCUAGUAACGUAGUCAAUUGCUUAGGGACAAUUCCGCAACUCCUACCACCACUUUUCCACACUCGUUAAACUAACGUAAUUUUUUCUUAGCAGCCCCUAGUCUUUAUUUACGUGUUCUUUCUUUUCUUGCAAACCUAUCCUAUCACUCCUACAAAGUACUUCUAGUUUCAUACUUGUUCUAGGUAAAGCGAACGUGAAGUGUGCGUAGAGUUGUAUCGGUGGUCGAUAGAACUUGAGGGAAUAUUUAUCCUACCUUUAGAUCCUCGUUGGGUUCAACACUCUUACGUAUCGAGAAAGGCUACAAUUGAUCCCCUAUACUUGUGGGUUAUCAGUGACGGCGACGGCGAUUGGCUUGGGGCGAUGGGCUCGGGGGCGACGGCAGCGGGGACGUUUAUGGCCUCGGGGGUGACGGUGAUGACGGGCUCGGGAUGACGACGACGGCGACAGGCUCGGGGGCGACGACGACGGUGACGGGCUCGGGGCGACGACGGGCUCGGCGUGACAACGGGCUCGGGGCGAUGGCGACAAUGACGAUGGGCUCGUGGAGAAGGCGCGGGCCGGCGGCGACGGGCUCGGGGCGGCAACGACGACGGUGAGGAGAGAAGAGAACGGGGCAAAUGGGAGUUGGUAGAAAUUUUGGUAAGUCCCGCCAUAUAUGCGAACACCUUUGGUCCCCGUUGGUAGCUCCAACCGACACCAAUGCCACCCUUUUGUCCCGGUUGGAGCCACCAACCGGGACUAAAGGUCAAUUUUCAGCAGUCCAAAAGGGCGGGAAGAAGAGACCUUUAGUAUCGGUUGGUGGCUCCAACCGGGACGAAAGGGUGGUAUUGGUCCCGGUUGGAGGCACCAACCGGGACCAAAGUGUGGUGUUGCCCGGGUCUAAAUUUUUAGUCCCACCUCGCUUGCCGAGAGAGCUCGCGAGUGGUUUAUAAUCGCUGCUGCGCACAAUCUGUCGAGCUCCUCUCAACUGCAAGCUUUCGGACCUAAUCUGUCACUGCCUGUGGGCCUAUUGGGCCUUGUGUGGGCCUGAAUCCUGGCCCAACCAGGAGGAUGGGUUUCUAGUCGUAUUCACGCCGUUGUGGCCUAGUAGGUGGCAUUUUUUUUAAAUCUNNNNNNNNNNNNNNNNNNUUUACUUUUUCUUGUUCCUACUUAUUGUUUUUCGUUGAUUCUUUUUUGCUUUUAGGUCACAACAUUUCUCAAAAUGCACCAUUCAAAGCCACAUCAUCAAUUUUCAACAAAUUCUGACUUCAUUUGCUAUUUUUCAUGCAUUUACUGAUAUUUUGGACUAAAUGACCCUUAAAUUGGAAAGCACUACAAAUAAACUCUAAAAAGGUUGAAAGUUGGCAUGGUAUCAUCAUUUCACCGACAUAGGAUGUGCUAAAAAGUUGAGAGGGUUGCGCAAAAACUGGAUGCACUUUGUGUACAAAAUGGACAAUCUCUUUCGAAGUAUGAGGGUUUCAUACGAAAACUCAUCUGUUACAAAGGGAUUUCAUUUUAUUGAUAUUAUUUGAACUCCAUACUUUUUGUGUGUUCAAAAUGCACCAUUCAAAGCCACAUCAUCAAUUUUCAACAAUUUUUGACUUCAUUUGGUAUUUUUCAUAAAUUUAUUGUUUUUUUGAGCUAAAUGACCCUUAAAUUGAAAAGCACUACAAAUCACCUCUGAAAAGAUUGAAAAUUGGCAUAGUAUCAUCAUUUCACCCACAAAGCAUGUGCUAAAUAGUUGAGAGGGUUAUGGCAAAAACUGGAUGCACUUCGUGUACAAAACGGAGAAUCUCUUUCGAAGUAUCACAGAUUCACAUGAAAACUCAUCUAUUACAAAGGGAUUUCAUCUUUUUGAACUUAUUUGAACUCCAGACUUUUUGUGUGUUCAAAAUGCACCAUUUAAAGCCACAUCAUCAAUUUUGAACAAUUUAUGACUGCAUUUUGUAUUUUUCAUGCAUUUACUGAUUUUUUUGAGCUACAUGACCCUUAAAUUGAAAAGCAUUACAAAUGAACUCUGAAAAGGUUAAAAGUUUGCAUGGUUUCAUCAUUUCACCCACAUAGCAUGUGAUAAUAAGUUGAGAGGGUUACGGCAAAAACAGGAUGCACUUCGUGUACAAAACGAACAAUCUCUUUCGAACUAUCAAGGUUUCAUACGAAAACUCACCUAUUACAAAGGAAUUUCAUUUUUUGAACUUAUUUGAACUCCAUACUUUUUAUGUGUUAAAAUGCACCAUUCAAAGCCACAUCAUCAAUUUUCAAAAAAUUCUGACUUCAUAUGGUAUUUUACAUGCAUUUCCUUUUUUUUUGAGCUAAAUGACCAUGAAAUUGAAAAGCACUACAAAUGAACUAUGAAAAGGUUGAAAGGUGGUAUGGUAUGAUCAUUUCACCCACAUAGCAUGUGUUAAAAAGUUGAGAGGGUUACGGCAAAAACUGGAUGCACUUCAUGUAUAAAACAUACAAUCUCUUUCGAAAUAUCACAUUUUAAAUACGAAAACUCAUCCGUUACAAAGGGAUUUUAUUUUUUUGAACUUAUUUGAACUCCGGCCUUUUUGUGUGUUCAAAAUGCACAAUUCAGAGCCACAUCAUAAAUUUUCAAUAAUUUGUGACUUCAUUUGCUAUUUUUCAUGCAUUUAUUGAUUUUUUUAGCUAAAUGACCCUUAAAUUGGAAAGCACUACAAAUGAACUUUGAAAAGGUUGAAAGUUGGCAUGGUAUCAUCAUUCCACCCCACAUAGCAUGUGAUAAAAAGUUGAGAGGGUUACGGCAAAAACUGGAUGCACUUCAUAUACAAAACAGACAAUCUCCUUCGAAGUGUCAGGGUUUCAUACGAAAACUCAUUUGUUACAAAGGGAUUUCAUUUUUUUGAAUUCAUUUGAACUCCAGACUUUUUGUGUGUUCAAAAUGAACCAUUCAAAGCCACAUCAUCAAUUUUCAACAAUUUUUGAAUUCAUUUGGUAUUUUUCAUGCAUUUACUGAUUUUUUUGAGCAAAAUGACCCUUAAAUUGAAAAGCACUACAAAUGAACUCUGAAAAGGCUGAAAGUUGACAUGGUAUCAUCAUUUCACCUACAUAGCAUGUGCUAAAAAGUUGAGAGGGUUAUGACAAAAACUGGAGAACUUCGUGUAAAAAAUGGACAAUCUCUUUCGAAGUAUCACAGUUUCAUACGAAAAUUCUUCUGUUACAAAGGAAUUUUAUUUUGUUGAACUUAUUUGAAAUCCAGACUUUUUGUGUGUUCAAAAUGCACCAUUCAAAGCCAUAUCAUAAAAUUUCAACAAUUUCUGACAUCAUUUGGUAUUUUUUAUGCAUUACUGAUUUUUUUAGCUAAAUGACCAUGAAAUUGAAAAGCACUACAAAUGAACUCUCAAAAGUUUGAAAAUUGGCUUGGUAUCAUCAUUUCACCGACAUAGCAUGUGAUUAAAAGUUGAGAGGGUUACGAGAAAAACUGGAUGCACUUGGUCUACAAAACGAACAAUCUCUUUGGAAGUAUAAGGGUUUCAUACGAAAACUCAUCUAUUACAAAAGACAUUUCAUUACUUCACUUUUUCUUUGCUUGUGUUCUUUGAUUAUUGCGCCGUAACCAUGGAUAAUCAGUACUAGGAAAAAGCCUAGUAGUAGCGCGGGUUUAGUGCCUACUAGUAGCGCGGGUAAUCGCGCUACUAGUAAGGCGCUACAGCUAUUACUUACCAGCAGCGCGUGUAAGACGCGCUACUGCUAAGACAUAUAAGUGUCGUACAAGUGCUAUUGAUAAAACAAAUAUUAGUAGCGUUCUUCUAAACCCGCGCUACUAGUAAUCUGUUUUUCAUUAUUUUUAAUAUGUAGUGUAUUUAUACGUCGUUAUAUAAAUUUUGAUAGAGUACCAAUUAAGAGGUUGUUAUAUCAUUAUGUUCAUGAAGAAUUAUUAUAUCAUUGUGAUGAAUAAACCUGGAUUUUAUUCAUCUAAAUGAAUCAAAAGUGAUCAAAAGUUGAAUUAGUAGGACGACGAUCCUAGUAAUUCAACUUUUGGUCACUUUUGAUCCAUCCACAUGAAUCUAAUCCGCUUUCCUUCCCGCAAUGACAUAAUAACCAAUCAUGAUCAUAAUAACAAAUCUUCAUGAUAAUCAUGAUCAACAUCAUCAGCAUAUUAAUAUAAAAACUCUUGCAUCAUAUCAUCACUAACAACACUAUAGCGAAUAAUCAUCAUAGUCAUUACCACCAACACUAUUUAAUCAUCAUUUUCGUCAAUGAGACGUCAUAUAACAAGUUGGUGGCUAGUCAUAAUCACAACUCCUCCUCCUCCUCAUUAUCAACUAUAACACAUUUUAGCACAUAAUAACACAUUGUACCUAGGACCUACUCCUCUCUCAUAGUACCUACUCUACCCUCUCUUAGGUAGAAUAUCACAAAACAAGAUAGGCCCGGUCUCUCCAUUAUGGAGAAUGGAGAUCAUCCUGUCUCUAACUCUUACCCUACGCACAGUAUUGCUUCCAAGUAGCUCUCUACGAUUGGCCAUGCAUUUUUUCCAAUCUUUGAUUGUCAUUUCAUCGGUUAUAGAAACCCUGUAUGGACAGGAGUGAUGCAUAUACAUAGGCUACCUGGCCGUGCUGGCCGUAAGCUCAUAAUAUCAACACGACCUCUUGGAAACAUCACAUGAGGCACACAAUCCUUCUGGAUUUUCUGUUGAAAAACAUAGUAAUAACUUUGUAGCUAGCAAUGCAGUUUAGUUUUACAAGAAUUUAUGCAAAAGAUGCACGGAUGUCGUAAUAGUAGAAAAUAUUACCAUGCAAUCUCCAUGCAUGUUACCGUAGUUCACCACGUGCACUAUUGGCACGUAUUGACCAUAAUGUGGAGGAGUUUGCUGAUAGCUAUUGUAAUUCUCAAGAUCAUUAAUAAAUGCGACAAGAUGAUUUUUGUCCUGAUAAGUUAAUUCUGCUUCAUCAUUGUAGUGGUAGGUUCUGUCUACCAUCUCCCGUACAUUUUUUGAAGAAUGAAAAUAAGUUGUAAAUGGAAGUAAGUUGUCAACAAUUUUUAAAUAAACAAUAUAAAUUACUCAAUAAAUAUGGUUGAGAAACUCACAUAAUGGUGGAACUGGAGGCGUCUGCACAUCGACCCAGAUGUCGAUAUUACCUUCAAUUUCAUCUUCCAGACGAAUAUCAAAGGUGAUAAGCAUAUUAGGCUCAAGUGCAUAAGCCUUGCAUAGUGCUACCCAAUUUUUGCACUCAAAAAAGGAGUAGGUGUCUGCAUUGUACAACUUUACGGCAAAAGUAUAAUCAUACUCGAUCCUCAAGUGAACUCUCUUUACCUCCAUAGUUUUUUAGUACUGAAACCUAUCUUAUCCAAGACAUAAAUUCUUGCAUGGCAGGGGAUACGCUAGUAGAAUAGUAAAAAAUAAAAAUUAUAAAUUGAAGCAAAAGAAGUCAUGCUUAAUUAAGAAAAAAGACUUGUCAUUGUGACUUACUGUAUCCACUUCGAAGUCCUCAUCCAGCAUGAUGUUGAAGCGCUUAUCAUCAACUAGGUGAGGCACGUCGCACAAGCCGCGCUCGUCUUGACAGUAUUCGCACAUAGUGAAUUUCCUUUCGUCUUCAGACAUUUCCUAUGUUCAUAGUUGAAACAUUUAAAAUCGACCGAAAAGGCAACUACCAGGAAACUUAUAUGAAAGAUCACUAUUAAUUCUAAAACAGAUCACUAUUACACCAAGACAUCCUCUAUAUUAAGAAUGCAUCAUCAUCGACAUCAAUGACAUGGCCACUAGCACUUGCAUUUUCAUCAUCGACAUUUACAACACAUUAUCAUCUAUAUCAACAACAUGGGCAUUGCCGGCAAAACACACGCACUAGGAGGUGCUCCGUGCAAUAACAUACACACAUCAAAUAGAUGACAUAUAACUCAUCAUCAUCUUACUCAUUUAAUAACUCAUGAAAGUCAUACAAGGAGCAACGACAAACCGAAAGAUAACCGAUAUUAUCACUAAUACAUCUCGAAUAUUAUCAUACAAUAUCACAAAUAAAAAUUCAGUUGACGUCUCACGGUGCAGGCGGUGGCAACCGAAAGAUAAGGAACCAUCACCGGAUCAUAGCUCAGGUGAUGUCCCUGGAGAACCUGCCAGGUAUUGGAGAACCUGGCAUCCAACGCAGCCAUGUAGAGACAUACAUGCUCGUCCUCCUCCCUAACACGGCGACGUAACAACUCCGUGGGGCCCGGCUCCCUCGGCACCGAUAAAGGCCCACGCGACUGCCACCAAAGAAGCUCCGGGUCAACGAUGAGACCCGGAUUCCUCACAAAGGUGCGCCCCCCGGAAGGUAGCACCUCCUAGUGCCAGCCCAACGGAGCCUAGUCCCGCACAUGCUGGCGCCUAUCAAGCAGGUGGUCUCCAUCGAGUUGACGACGAGGAUGCGGAAUGGGCAUCGUCGAUGUUAAGACAAAUUCCUCUGAGAAAAUUUUCUUAUUGUUUAAUGUUUUACUUUCUAAUUCUCAUUUAUACAAUAAUCAUCUCAUUUGAAUUCAGCUAGCGCCCACUACCAAAUAUACAAUAAUAAAACACAAUAUAUAUAUUAUGCAAAUAUUUCCGCAACAACAUUGAGGGCCUGAGAAAAUAAAAUGAAUAAUGACAUAAAAUGGCCUAUGUUUUGCAGGAACGUUGAUUCAUUCCUAGUGCGGAAAAUCCCGGACACUCGAUAUAUCGUAGUUUGUAGCACAAGUCAUGUCAAAAUUCACGAAAAAAUUCGAAUGACCUUUGUUAAAAGUGAAAAAAUUGAGCAGCUGCAAUUUGCCGGAACAAAAAUGAAUCAACAUUUCCGGCAUAACAUAGGCCGCUCGGCUUCAUUCCCUGUAAACAACAAAAGGCUCCCUCUCUCACUAAGUAUACACCUAAGUAAAUUCUAUGUUAACCUACUGCCCUAACUAACAACAUGACCUUAUGCCCUAACUAACAACAUGACCUUAUGCCCUAACUAACAACAUAACCUAAUUAACCUAUUUAACCUAGAACCCUUGAACUCUAUAACCCUAGAACAUAACGUAACUAACAUUUGCUAAUUUGUUAAUUGUACUAACCAAUUUAACCUAGAACCCUAGAACAUAACCUACCUAACAUUUGCUAAUCAGUUAAUUGUACUAACCUAUCACUAGUAGAAAACGGGCCUUUGGCCUGGACCAUUUAGUCCCGGCCUGCCUCUGGGUCGGGACUAAAGGCCCGGCCACGUCGCCCCAAUUCUCAAUGCCUCCCUCGAGGCUUUAGUCCCGGCCCGUAAGGAGCCUGUAGUCUCGGUUCGAGUCACAAAGCGGGACUAAAGGGCUACGCGGCGGGCAGUGGUGGUGGCAACCGUUCGUAUACCUCUUUAGUCCCCGUUGGUGGCUCAACCCGGGACUAAAGGACUAACACGUGGCCUGCCGUGGUGGUGGCGACCGUUGGUAUACCUCUUUAGUCCCGGUUGGUGGCUCAACCCGGGACUAAAGGACUAACACGUGGCCUAACGUAGUGGGGCGACUGUUGGCAUACCUCUUUAGUCCCGGUUGGUGGUUGAACCCGGGACUAAAAGCCUAACACGUGGCCUGCCGUAGUGGUGGCAACCAUUUGGUAUACCUCUUUAGUCCCGGUUGGUGGCUCAAACCGGGAUUAAAGGCCCAAAUGGUUUGCAUCCCGCGUCGUUUCGGGAGAUGAAAAGCACGAACCGAAGCGUACAGUCGCCAUUUCUCUGUUCUUCUUCUCUCUCACGUCGCCCUCUCUAUUCUUCUCCUCUCUCGCGUCGCCCUCUCUGUUCUUCUCCUCUCUUCUUCCCUUCUCUUGUUCCACCAUGCCAACUACCUUUCAUGAGGUGGUCGCGCAUGGGACGACCAAGCUCCGUGUCGUGUACACGAACCUGAGCACGGAGGUGCCGUUUUUCCUUCAACAGUUGAAGGAACGAUGGUUUAACCAUGCACCAGAUCAUGAGAAGUUCUUCGGGCUUGAUCUGAAGUACACGGCCGAUCAACGCGGUGUUGCCGUCAUCCAAAUAUGCUUCGCAAGCCAUGUCUUGAUCUUCCAAUGGGGGAGGUAAGUUUUGAGGCUUUCUUUGAUCCAAGAUAAUACAUUGUAUAAGUUUAUUUGUUUCUAUCAUAGUUGGUUCCCUUCAAAUAGUUGUAGUGAAACAAUUUUGAUUACUUGAAGGGGAGCACAAUCUAAUUGGAAUAGUGUUCCAUAAUCUGAAAAAUCGUAUUAGAAUAAACUAGUGUUUAAUAUGUUCCAUUGGAAUCAUAGUUGGUUCCCUUCAAAUAGUUGUAGUGAAACAAUUUUGAUUAGUUGAAGGGGAGCACAAUCUAAUUGGAAUAGUGUUCCAUAAUCUGAAAAAUCGUAUUAGAAUCAACUAGUGUUUAAUAUGUUCCAUUGGAAUCAUAGUUGGUUCCCUUGAAAUAGUUGUAGUGAAACAAUUUUGAUUACUUGAAGGGGAGCACAAUCUGAUUGGAAUAAUCUUCCAUAAUCUGAAAAAUCGUAUUAGAAUCAACUAGUGUUUAAUAUGUUCCAUUGGAAUCAUAGUUGGUUCCCUUCAAAUAGUUGUAGUGAAACAAUUUUGAUUAGUUGAAGGGGAACACAAUCUGAUUGGAAUAGUGUUUCAUAAUCUGAAAAAUCGUAUUAGAAUGAACUAGUGUUUAAUAUGUUCCACUGGAAUCAUAGUUGGUUCGCUUCAAAUAGUUGUAGUGAAACAAUUUUGAUUAGUUGAAGGGGAACACAAUCUGAUUGGAAUAGUGUUCCAUAAUCUAAAAAAUCGUAUUAGAAUGAACUAGUGUUUAAUAUGUUCCAUUGGAACCAUAGUUGGUUCGCUUCAAAUAGUUGUAGUGAUCUCUCUAGGUUCCAUUGCAUAUGUUCUAUUUGAAUCCAAAAGAUAAGUUUCUCUUUAGUUGUAGUGAAACAUGUUUCCUUAUUGCAGCAGUAUGUAACAUUUGUUCCAUUCUAAUUUGUUUCUGUUGCAGGAGUGACAAGCAUUGUCCUGGACUCAUGGAGUUCCUUCGCAGCGGCGUCACUUUUGCUUCCGUUGACAUAUGGAACGACAGGCUGAAGAUGAGGCACAACUUCGGUAUUGAGAUACGAGCUGGUUGCCUCGUUGAUCUCCAAACGAUAUUCAGGCUUCGACAUGAGAGGACUUCGAUGGCUCAUAUGGCAGUUGCCUUGAUCGACGAUUCAUAUGGUGAUAUGAAGACCAGUUUCCCAAAGUCUCAGCACAGACUUUGGGAGAAGGGCCCACUUGAUGAUAUCAACAUUCAGUAUGCAGCAAAAGAUGCAUACGUUUCAUACGAGUUGUACCGCAAGAUUCGAGUCGUCAACUAUGGCCAGCGUCACCUCGAGGAAGGUGGGCAUUCUGAUUCAGAUGAUUCAGACGAGUAGUGUUCUUAACGUCGAACACUUGUAUAUAUAUAUCUAUGGUAGCUAUUAUUAUGUACUGUUUGGGCUAGUAUCAUGUACUUCUUGGACCAAUUUACAUAUGUCUAGUUUCUGUUUGUGCCAUUAUAGUUUCCCAAUUUGAAUGGUUUAGCCCUUUCUAACUUCGUUUGCUACUUUUGAAUGGUUUAGCCCUUUCUAACUUCAUGGUAUCAUGCAUUUCGACCACAUAUAUAUACAAAAAGUCUUUAGUUCAAAUAAGUUCAAAUAAGUUCAUGCAUUUCAACAUUUUCAGAGUUCAUUUGUAGUGCUUUUCAAUUUCAGGGUCAACUAGCUCAAAAAAAAUAAGUAAAUGCACGAAAUAUACCAAAUGAAGUCAGAAAUUGUUGAAAUUUUGUGAUGUGCCUUUGAAUGGUGCAUUUUGAACACACAAAAAGUAUGGAGUUCAAAUAAGUNUUUAAAAAAAUGAAAUCCUUUUGUAAGAGAUGAGUUCUCGUUCGAAACCCUGCUACUUCGAGAGAGAUUGUCAGUUUUGUACACGAACUGCAUCCAGUUUUUGUCGUAGCCUUCUCAACUUUUUAACACAUGCUAUGUGGGUGAAAUGACGAUAGCAUGCCAACUUUCAACAUUUUCAGAGUUCAUUUGUAGUGCUUUUCAAUUUCAGGGUCAACUAGCUNNNNNNNNNNNNNNNNNNNNNNNNNNNNNNNNNNNNNNNNNNNNNNNNNNNNNNNNNNNNNNNNNNNNNNNNNNNNNNNNNNNNNNNNNNNNNNNNNNNNUCUUUCAUAUUAUCCUUUCUUUAAUUUCCCCAACAUUGACAUAAUUAGCCCAUUUAGCUCCAAAAUGCCAUAAUAAGCUCAGAAUGGCAUAAGAACCUUGGUGAGCUCAUGAAUAUUAUAUACUUAGCUUGUUUUCCUGUAAAAUGGGAUAAUUAGCCCAUUUAGCUCCAAAAAGACAUAAUUAGGUAAUUUAGCUCCANNNNNNNNNNNNNNNNNNNNNNNNNNNNNNNNNNNNNNNNNNNNNNNNNNNNNNNNNNNNNNNNNNNNNNNNNNNNNNNNNNNNNNNNNNNNNNNNNNNNNNNUCCUUCUCCUCCUUCUUGAUUUCUUCUUCUUCUCCUCCGCCUCCUAUUUCUUCUCCUAUUUCAUAUUAUCCUUGCUUUAAUUUCCCCAACAAUGACAUAAUUAGCCCAUUUAGCUCCAAAAUACCGUAAUAAGCUCAAAAUAGCAUAAGAACCUUGGUUAGCUCAUGAAUAUUAUAUACUUAGCUUGUUUUCCUCUAAAAUGGGAUAAUUAACCCAUUUAGCUCCAAAAAGACAUAAUUAGGUAAUUUAGCUCCAACAAUAAAUAGGAAAAAUGAAAAGAAAGAAAGANNNNNNNNNNNNNNNNNNNNNNNNNNNNNNNNNNNNNNNNNNNNNNNNNNNNNNNNNNNNNNNNNNNNNNNNNNNNNNNNNNNNNNNNNNNNNNNNNNNNNNNNNNNNNNNNNNNNNNNNNNNCCCCAACAAUGACAUAAUUAACCCAUUUAGCUCCAAAAUGCCAUAAUAAGCUAAAAAUGGCAUAAGAACCUUGGUUAGCUCAUGAAUAUUAUAUUCUUAGCUUGUUUUCCGCUAGAAAUGACAUAAUUACCUCAAAACAUCAUAUUUUGUUCUUUUUCUGACUUUCUUAUUCACANNNNNNNNNNNNNNNNNNNNNNNNNNNNNNNNNNNNNNNNNNNNNNNNNNNNNNNNNNNNNNNNNNNNNNNNNNNNNNNNNNNNNNNNNNNNNNNNNNNNUGAAAAGUGUUUCAAAUUGAAUAAAUAAUGCAAAACUAUUUUUUAUUUUCAUAAUUAAUAAUUUUGACUAUCCAAACUAUUAUCUAUUUUGUUAUUUUCAAUUAAAAACUAUGUUUAUUAAAAAUUCUUUUUGCAUAUUUGAGAAUUUAACAAAACUAUGAUAAUGAAAAGUGUUUCAAAUUGAAUAAAUAAUGCAAAACUAUUUUUAUUUUCAUAAUUAAUAAUUUUGACUAUCCAAACUAUUAUCUAUUUUGUUAUUUUGACUUCAUUUGGUAUAUUUCGUGCAUGUACUUAUUUUUUUUGAGCUAGUUGACCCUGAAAUUGAAAAGCACUACAAAUGAACCACUACUGAAAUUCAGAAAUUUGCCGUCUGCCAAGGCGGACGGCAAAGGGGGCAACCAUGGACGGCAAAGGCUUUGCCGUCUGCCCCCUCAUGGCAAAGUAGAUGGUAAAAAAAAUCCGGUGAAGAGGCUCUUUGCCGUCUGCUUUCACAAAGCGGACGGCAAAGAAUCUUUGCCAUGAGGGGGAAGACGGCAAAAUAAGUGGGACGGCAUAUAUUGCAACGUCCCCGUUAAGUGUUAACGGCAGGCCUCCUCUCUUUGCCGUCUGCCUCCCCCCCUUUGCCAUGUGGGGGUAAACGGCAAAGAGGGAGAGAGAGGGGGCAGAUUCUCUCUUUGCCGUCUGCCUCCCCCCCUUUGCCAUGUGGGGGCAGACGGCAAAAAGGGGAGAGAGAGGGGGCAGAUUCUCUCUUUGCCGUCUGCCUCCCCCCCUUUGCCAUGUGGGGGCAGACGGGGGGGGGGGGAGAGAGAGGGGGCAGAUUCUCUCUUUGCCGUCUGCCUCCCCCCCUUUGCCAUGUGGGGGCAGACGGCAAAGAGGGGAGAGAGAGGGGGCAGAUUCUCUCUUUGCCGUCUGCCUCCCCCCCUUUGCCAUGUGGGGGCAGACGGCAAAGAGGGGAGAGAGAAGGGGCAGAUUCUCUCUUUGCCGUCUGCCUCCCCCCUUUGCCAUGUGGGGGCAGACGGCAAAGAGGGGAGAGAGAGGGGGCAGAUUCCCCCUUUGCCGUCUGCCUCCACCCCUUUGCCAUGUGUUGGCAGACGGCAAAGAGGGGAACCAUCCCCUUUUUUAUUUAUUUUUUGUUAUAUCCAGCAUUUUUAACAAUAAUCAGGAUAUAUAUAUAUAUUUGACAUAAAUAAAUUUCUUUUCGUACCCAUAACCAUAUUAAAAUAACUCUCAUCCAUAGUGCAUACAUAUUAUGGAAGUUACAUUCGUACCAAACCUAAUAUUACACCAGUUUCAUCCACGUGCAUACAAAGUUUCAUAUAUUCAUAUACUACAACAGNNNNNNNNNNNNNNNNNNNNNNNNNNNNNNNNNNNNNNNNNNNNNNNNNNNNNNNNNNNNNNNNNNNNNNNNNNNNNNNNNNNNNNNNNNNNNNNNNNNNAAAUGUUGAAAGUUGGCAUGCUAUCAUCAUUUCACCCACAUAGCAUGUGUUAAAAAGUUGAGAGGGCUACAACGAAAACUUGAUGCAGUUCGUUUACAAAAUUAACAAUCUCUCUCGAAGUAGCAGGGUUUCGAACGAGAACUCAUCUCUUACAAAGGGAUUUCAUUUUUUUAAACUUAUUUGAACUCCAUACUUUUUGUGUGUUAAAAAUGCACCAUUCAAAGGCACAUCACAAAAUUUCAACAAUUUCUGACUUCAUUUGGUAUAUUUCGUNGUGCAUUUACUUAAUUUUUUUGAGCUAGUUGACCCUGAAAUUGAAAAGCACUACAAAUGAACUCUGAAAAUGUUGAAAGUUGGCAUGCUGUCAUCAUUUCACCCACAUAGCAUGUGUUAAAAAGUUGAGAGGGCUAUGAAAAAAACUGGAUGCAGUUCAUGUACAAAACUGACAAUCCCUCUGGAAGUAGCUGGGUUUCGAACGAGAACUCAUCUCUUACAAAGGGAUUUCAUUUUUUUAAACUUAUUUGAACUCCAUACUUNNNNNNNNNNNNNNNNNNNNNNNNNNNNNNNNNNNNNNNNNNNNNNNNNNNNNNNNNNNNNNNNNNNNNNNNNNNNNNNNNNNNNNNNNNNNNNNNNNNNGUUGGAAAUAUGCCCUAGAGGCAAUAUACUAAAUUUCUUAUUAUUAUAUUUCCUUGUUCAUGAUAAUCGUUUAUUAUCCAUGCUAGAAUUGUAUUGAUUGGAAGCUCAAAUACAUGUGUGGAUACGUAGACAACACACUGUCCCUAAUGAGCCUUUAAGUACUAGCUCGUUGAUCGAAGAUGGUCAAGGAUUCCUGACCAUAGACACGAGUUAUCAUUUGAUAAGAGGAUCACAUCAUUAGGAGAAUGAUGUGAUGGACAAGAUACAAACUAUAAACUUAACAUACGAUCGUGUUAGUUUAUUGCUACUGUUUUCUGCAUGUCAACUAUCUGUUUCUAUGACCAUGAGAUCAUGCAACUAUCAGGCACCGGAGGAAUGCCUUGUGUGUAUCAAACGUAACAACGUAAUUGGGUGACUAUAAAAGUGCUCUAAUGGUAUCUCUGAAGGUGUAUGUUGGGUUGGCAUGAAUUGAGACUUUGAUUUGUCACUCCGUAUGACGAAGAGGUAUCUCUAGAGCCUACUCGGUAAUGAAAAAUCACAAUGAGCUUGCAAGUAAUGUGACUAAAGAGUUAGUCACGGCAUCUUGUAUUACGGAAUGAGUAAAGACACUUGCCGAUAACGAGAUUGAACUAGGUAUGGAGAUACCGACGAUCGAAUCUCGGGAAAGUAACAUACCGAUGGACAAAGGGAACAAUAUACGAGAUUGAUUGAAUCCUUGACAUCGUGGUUCGACCGAUAAGGAUCUUUGUACAAUAUGUAGGAGCCAAUAUGGGCAUCCAUGUCCCGCUAUUGGUUAUUUACCAGCGAGUGUCUCAGGUCAUGUGUGCAUAGUUCUUGAACAUGCAGGACCUGCACACUUAAAGUUUGGCGACGUUUUAGUAUAGUUGAGUUAUGUAUGUUGGUGACCGAAGGUUGUUCGGAGUCCCGGAUGAGAUCCCGGACGUCACCAGGAGCUCUUGAAUGGUCCGGAUGUAAAGAUUGAUACAUGGGAAGUUCUGUGUUGGUCACUAGAGAAAGUUCGAGCGUCAUCGAUGGCGUACCGGGGGUGCCGGAAGGUUUCCGGGGGUCCACCAGCCCGGAGGGUCCACACGGGCUGUGAGGGAUGCACACCAGCCCCUGCUGGACUUGGUGCACAUCCCCGCCUAAGGCCCAUGUGGCUGGGCUGGUGGAGGGCCAACCCUAUAGGGGCGCGCCACCCUAACGUUGGGGGGGGGGGGGGGGCAAGCCACCCCUAGGGCAGAUGCCCCUUCCUCCUUUGGCCGCUGCCCCUCCCUCCUUUGGCCGCCGCCCCCUAGGGUUGAAUCCCUAGGGCGGAGCCCCUCUCCCCUUCCCCCUAUAUAUAUAGAUGGGGAGAGAGAGGGCUCCAACACACCAAGGCCACGACGCAGCCCUGUCUCUCCCACAUAUCAGUUUUCUCCUCUAGAUUGGUUCCGGUAUUGCUUGGCGAAGCCUUGNNNNNNNNNNNNNNNNNNNNNNNNNNNNNNNNNNNNNNNNNNNNNNNNNNNNNNNNNNNNNNNNNNNNNNNNNNNNNNNNNNNNNNNNNNNNNNNNNNNNCUCUCUCUCUCUCUCUCUCUCUCUCUCUCUCUCUCUCUUCUUCUUCUUCUCUCCUCCUCCUCCUCUUCUUCUUCUCUCUUCUUCUUCUUCUUCUCCUGCUUUUUUUCCUUCUGCUUUUYYUCUUCUAACCUAACUAACUAACCUAAUUAGCCUAAUAAUCUAACCAAAUAAACUAACUAAAUUACCCUAUAUAUAAUAAAAAACUAACCUAAUAAACUAACUAAAGUAAUUAACUUUUUUAAAAAGAAAAACAGGAAAAACUCACCGGCAGGGGGCGGCGGCGGCAGGGGGCGCGCGGCUGGGGGCUCGCCGCAGGGGGGCGKCGGCGGCAGGGGGCGGCGACGGCAGGGGGCGCAAUGCAGGUGGMGCGSGCGCGCGGCAGGGGGCGGCGGCGGCAGGGGGCGCGCCGCAGGGGAGGUGCUCACCGUGGGGGUGGGUCGCCGCGGGGAGGGGAUCCCACGGGGAGGGGUCNCCGGGGGGGGGUGGCUCGCCGCGGGGAGGGGAUCUCGCGGGGAGGGGUCGCCGCCGUGGAGAGAGAGAGUGGUCGGGGUGAGAGAGAGAGAGAGACAGUGAGCGAGGGGGUAACGGCCGUUAUAGGGCGGCCCCUUUGCCGUCCGCCCCCCGACGGCAAAGGGCCGUAUGGCAGACGGCAAAGGCCCGCGGACGGCAAAGGCCGCCGGAUUUCGGACACGGCAGGCAUGGGACCCACGCGUCCCCUUUGCCGUCUGCCCUGGGGCUCUUUGCCGUCUGCUGGCAGACGGCAAAGGACCCACACAUGGAAAAUAGUAUUUUUGCCAUGUGUCAGUUCUUUGUCGUCUGUAUUGUGUCAACUGAUGGCAAAGAGGUUCUUUGCCGUCAGCCAGCAGACGGUAAAGAACUGGCUGACGGCAAAUUUCUGGAUUCCAGUAGUGAACUCUGAAAAUGUUGAAAGUUGGCAUGCUAUCAUCAAUUCACCCACAUAGCAUGUGUUAAAAAGUUGAGAGGGAUACGACCAAAACUGGAUGCUGUUCGUGUACAAAACUGACAAUCUCUCUCGAAGUAGCAGGGUUUCGAAAGAGAACUCAUCUCUUACAAAGGGAUUUCAUUUUUUUAAACUUAUUUGAACUCCAUACUUUUUAUCUGUUCAAAAUGCACCAUUCAAAGGCACAUCACAAAAUUCCAACAAUUUCUGACUUCAUUUCGUAUAUUUCGUGCAUUUACUUAUUUUUUUGAGCUAGUUGACCCUGAAAUUGAAAAGCACUACAAAUGAACUCUGAAAAUGUUGAAAGUUGGCAUGCUAUCAUCAUUUCACCCACAUAGCAUGUGUUAAAAAGUUGAGAGGGCUACGAGAAAAACUGGAUGUAGUUCGUGUACAAAACUGACAAUCUCUCUCGAAGUAGCAGGGUUUCGAACGAGAACUCAUCUCUUACAAAGGGAUUUCAUUUUUUAAAACUUAUUUGAACUCCAUACUUUUUGUGUGUUCAAAAUGCACCAUUCAAAGGCACAUCAUCAAUUUUCAACAAUUUUUGACUUCAUUUGGUAUUUUUCAUAAAUUUAUUGUUUUUUUGAGCUAAAUGACCCUUAAAUUGAAAAGCACUACAAAUCACCUCUGAAAAGAUUGAAAAUUGGCAUAGUAUCAUCAUUUCACCCACAAAGCAUGUGCUAAAUAGUUGAGAGGGUUAUGGCAAAACUAGGAUGCACUUCGUGUACAAAACGGAGAAUCUCUUUCGAAGUAUCACAGAUUCACAUGAAAACUCAUCUAUUACAAAGGGAUUUCAUCUUUUUGAACUUAUUUGAACUCCAGACUUUUUGUGUGUUCAAAAUGCACCAUUUAAAGCCACAUCAUCAAUUUUGAACAAUUUAUGACUGCAUUUUGUAUUUUUCAUGCAUUUACUGAUUUUUUUGAGCUACAUGACCCUUAAAUUGAAAAGCAUUACAAAUGAACUCUGAAAAGGUUAAAAGUUUGCAUGGUUUCAUCAUUUCACCCACAUAGCAUGUGAUAAUAAGUUGAGAGGGUUACGGCAAAAACAGGAUGCACUUCGUGUACAAAACGAACAAUCUCUUUCGAACUAUCAAGGUUUCAUACGAAAACUCACCUAUUACAAAGGAAUUUCAUUUUUUGAACUUAUUUGAACUCCAUACUUUUUAUGUGUUAAAAUGCACCAUUCAAAGCCACAUCAUCAAUUUUCAAAAAAUUCUGACUUCAUAUGGUAUUUUACAUGCAUUUCCUUUUUUUUUGAGCUAAAUGACCAUGAAAUUGAAAAGCACUACAAAUGAACUAUGAAAAGGUUGAAAGGUGGUAUGGUAUGAUCAUUUCACCCACAUAGCAUGUGUUAAAAAGUUGAGAGGGUUACGGCAAAAACUGGAUGCACUUCAUGUAUAAAACAUACAAUCUCUUUCGAAAUAUCACAUUUUAAAUACGAAAACUCAUCCGUUACAAAGGGAUUUUAUUUUUUUGAACUUAUUUGAACUCCGGCCUUUUUGUGUGUUCAAAAUGCACAAUUCAGAGCCACAUCAUAAAUUUUCAAUAAUUUGUGACUUCAUUUGCUAUUUUUCAUGCAUUUAUUGAUUUUUUUAGCUAAAUGACCCUUAAAUUGGAAAGCACUACAAAUGAACUUUGAAAAGGUUGAAAGUUGGCAUGGUAUCAUCAUUCCACCCCACAUAGCAUGUGAUAAAAAGUUGAGAGGGUUACGGCAAAAACUGGAUGCACUUCAUAUACAAAACAGACAAUCUCCUUCGAAGUGUCAGGGUUUCAUACGAAAACUCAUUUGUUACAAAGGGAUUUCAUUUUUUUGAAUUCAUUUGAACUCCAGACUUUUUGUGUGUUCAAAAUGAACCAUUCAAAGCCACAUCAUCAAUUUUCAACAAUUUUUGAAUUCAUUUGGUAUUUUUCUAUGCAUUUACUGAUUUUUUUGUAGCAAAAUGACCCUUAAAUUGAAAAGCACUACAAAUGAACUCUGAAAAGGCUGAAAGUUGACAUGGUAUCAUCAUUUCACCUACAUAGCAUGUGCUAAAAAGUUGAGAGGGUUAUGACAAAAACUGGAGAACUUCGUGUAAAAAAUGGACAAUCUCUUUCGAAGUAUCACAGUUUCAUACGAAAAUUCUUCUGUUACAAAGGAAUUUUAUUUUGUUGAACUUAUUUGAAAUCCAGACUUUUUGUGUGUUCAAAAUGCACCAUUCAAAGCCAUAUCAUAAAAUUUCAACAAUUUCUGACAUCAUUUGGUAUUUUUUAUGCAUUACUGAUUUUUUUAGCUAAAUGACCAUGAAAUUGAAAAGCACUACAAAUGAACUCUCAAAAGUUUGAAAAUUGGCUUGGUAUCAUCAUUUCACCGACAUAGCAUGUGAUUAAAAGUUGAGAGGGUUACGAGAAAAACUGGAUGCACUUGGUCUACAAAACGAACAAUCUCUUUGGAAGUAUAAGGGUUUCAUACGAAAACUCAUCUAUUACAAAAGACAUUUCAUUACUUCACUUUUUCUUUGCUUGUGUUCUUUGAUUAUUGCGCCGUAACCAUGGAUAAUCAGUACUAGGAAAAAGCCUAGUAGUAGCGCGGGUUUAGUGCCUACUAGUAGCGCGGGUAAUCGCGCUACUAGUAAGGCGCUACAGCUAUUACUUACCAGCAGCGCGUGUAAGACGCGCUACUGCUAAGACAUAUAAGUGUCGUACAAGUGCUAUUGAUAAAACAAUAUUAGUAGCGUUCUUCUAAACCCGCGCUACUAGUAAUCUGUUUUUCAUUAUUUUUAAUAUGUAGUGUAUUUAUACGUCGUUAUAUAAAUUUUGAUAGAGUACCAAUUAAGAGGUUGUUAUAUCAUUAUGUUCAUGAAGAAUUAUUAUAUCAUUGUGAUGAAUAAACCUGGAUUUUAUUCAUCUAAAUGAAUCAAAAGUGAUCAAAAGUUGAAUUAGUAGGACGACGAUCCUAGUAAUUCAACUUUUGGUCACUUUUGAUCCAUCCACAUGAAUCUAAUCCGCUUUCCUUCCCGCAAUGACAUAAUAACCAAUCAUGAUCAUAAUAACAAAUCUUCAUGAUAAUCAUGAUCAACAUCAUCAGCAUAUUAAUAUAAAAACUCUUGCAUCAUAUCAUCACUAACAACACUAUAGCGAAUAAUCAUCAUAGUCAUUACCACCAACACUAUUUAAUCAUCAUUUUCGUCAAUGAGACGUCAUAUAACAAGUUGGUGGCUAGUCAUAAUCACAACUCCUCCUCCUCCUCAUUAUCAACUAUAACACAUUUUAGCACAUAAUAACACAUUGUACCUAGGACCUACUCCUCUCUCAUAGUACCUACUCUACCCUCUCUUAGGUAGAAUAUCACAAAACAAGAUAGGCCCGGUCUCUCCAUUAUGGAGAAUGGAGAUCAUCCUGUCUCUAACUCUUACCCUACGCACAGUAUUGCUUCCAAGUAGCUCUCUACGAUUGGCCAUGCAUUUUUUCCAAUCUUUGAUUGUCAUUUCAUCGGUUAUAGAAACCCUGUAUGGACAGGAGUGAUGCAUAUACAUAGGCUACCUGGCCGUGCUGGCCGUAAGCUCAUAAUAUCAACACGACCUCUUGGAAACAUCACAUGAGGCACACAAUCCUUCUGGAUUUUCUGUUGAAAAACAUAGUAAUAACUUUGUAGCUAGCAAUGCAGUUUAGUUUUACAAGAAUUUAUGCAAAAGAUGCACGGAUGUCGUAAUAGUAGAAAAUAUUACCAUGCAAUCUCCAUGCAUGUUACCGUAGUUCACCACGUGCACUAUUGGCACGUAUUGACCAUAAUGUGGAGGAGUUUGCUGAUAGCUAUUGUAAUUCUCAAGAUCAUUAAUAAAUGCGACAAGAUGAUUUUUGUCCUGAUAAGUUAAUUCUGCUUCAUCAUUGUAGUGGUAGGUUCUGUCUACCAUCUCCCGUACAUUUUUUGAAGAAUGAAAAUAAGUUGUAAAUGGAAGUAAGUUGUCAACAAUUUUUAAAUAAACAAUAUAAAUUACUCAAUAAAUAUGGUUGAGAAACUCACAUAAUGGUGGAACUGGAGGCGUCUGCACAUCGACCCAGAUGUCGAUAUUACCUUCAAUUUCAUCUUCCAGACGAAUAUCAAAGGUGAUAAGCAUAUUAGGCUCAAGUGCAUAAGCCUUGCAUAGUGCUACCCAAUUUUUGCACUCAAAAAAGGAGUAGGUGUCUGCAUUGUACAACUUUACGGCAAAAGUAUAAUCAUACUCGAUCCUCAAGUGAACUCUCUUUACCUCCAUAGUUUUUUAGUACUGAAACCUAUCUUAUCCAAGACAUAAAUUCUUGCAUGGCAGGGGAUACGCUAGUAGAAUAGUAAAAAAUAAAAUUAUAAAUUGAAGCAAAAGAAGUCAUGCUUAAUUAAGAAAAAAGACUUGUCAUUGUGACUUACUGUAUCCACUUCGAAGUCCUCAUCCAGCAUGAUGUUGAAGCGCUUAUCAUCAACUAGGUGAGGCACGUCGCACAAGCCGCGCUCGUCUUGACAGUAUUCGCACAUAGUGAAUUUCCUUUCGUCUUCAGACAUUUCCUAUGUUCAUAGUUGAAACAUUUAAAAUCGACCGAAAAGGCAACUACCAGGAAACUUAUAUGAAAGAUCACUAUUAAUUCUAAAACAGAUCACUAUUACACCAAGACAUCCUCUAUAUUAAGAAUGCAUCAUCAUCGACAUCAAUGACAUGGCCACUAGCACUUGCAUUUUCAUCAUCGACAUUUACAACACAUUAUCAUCUAUAUCAACAACAUGGGCAUUGCCGGCAAAACACACGCACUAGGAGGUGCUCCGUGCAAUAACAUACACACAUCAAAUAGAUGACAUAUAACUCAUCAUCAUCUUACUCAUUUAAUAACUCAUGAAAGUCAUACAAGGAGCAACGACAAACCGAAAGAUAACCGAUAUUAUCACUAAUACAUCUCGAAUAUUAUCAUACAAUAUCACAAAUAAAAAUUCAGUUGACGUCUCACGGUGCAGGCGGUGGCAACCGAAAGAUAAGGAACCAUCACCGGAUCAUAGCUCAGGUGAUGUCCCUGGAGAACCUGCCAGGUAUUGGAGAACCUGGCAUCCAACGCAGCCAUGUAGAGACAUACAUGCUCGUCCUCCUCCCUAACACGGCGACGUAACAACUCCGUGGGGCCCGGCUCCCUCGGCACCGAUAAAGGCCCACGCGACUGCCACCAAAGAAGCUCCGGGUCAACGAUGAGACCCGGAUUCCUCACAAAGGUGCGCCCCCCGGAAGGUAGCACCUCCUAGUGCCAGCCCAACGGAGCCUAGUCCCGCACAUGCUGGCGCCUAUCAAGCAGGUGGUCUCCAUCGAGUUGACGACGAGGAUGCGGAAUGGGCAUCGUCGAUGUUAAGACAAAUUCCUCUGAGAAAAUUUUCUUAUUGUUUAAUGUUUUACUUUCUAAUUCUCAUUUAUACAAUAAUCAUCUCAUUUGAAUUCAGCUAGCGCCCACUACCAAAUAUACAAUAAUAAAACACAAUAUAUAUAUUAUGCAAAUAUUUCCGCAACAACAUUGAGGGCCUGAGAAAAUAAAAUGAAUAAUGACAUAAAAUGGCCUAUGUUUUGCAGGAACGUUGAUUCAUUCCUAGUGCGGAAAAUCCCGGACACUCGAUAUAUCGUAGUUUGUAGCACAAGUCAUGUCAAAAUUCACGAAAAAAUUCGAAUGACCUUUGUUAAAAGUGAAAAAAUUGAGCAGCUGCAAUUUGCCGGAACAAAAAUGAAUCAACAUUUCCGGCAUAACAUAGGCCGCUCGGCUUCAUUCCCUGUAAACAACAAAAGGCUCCCUCUCUCACUAAGUAUACACCUAAGUAAAUUCUAUGUUAACCUACUGCCCUAACUAACAACAUGACCUUAUGCCCUAACUAACAACAUGACCUUAUGCCCUAACUAACAACAUAACCUAAUUAACCUAUUUAACCUAGAACCCUUGAACUCUAUAACCCUAGAACAUAACGUAACUAACAUUUGCUAAUUUGUUAAUUGUACUAACCAAUUUAACCUAGAACCCUAGAACAUAACCUACCUAACAUUUGCUAAUCAGUUAAUUGUACUAACCUAUCACUAGUAGAAAACGGGCCUUUGGCCUGGACCAUUUAGUCCCGGCCUGCCUCUGGGUCGGGACUAAAGGCCCGGCCACGUCGCCCCAAUUCUCAAUGCCUCCCUCGAGGCUUUAGUCCCGGCCCGUAAGGAGCCUGUAGUCUCGGUUCGAGUCACAAAGCGGGACUAAAGGGCUACGCGGCGGGCAGUGGUGGUGGCAACCGUUCGUAUACCUCUUUAGUCCCCGUUGGUGGCUCAACCCGGGACUAAAGGACUAACACGUGGCCUGCCGUGGUGGUGGCGACCGUUGGUAUACCUCUUUAGUCCCGGUUGGUGGCUCAACCCGGGACUAAAGGACUAACACGUGGCCUAACGUAGUGGGGCGACUGUUGGCAUACCUCUUUAGUCCCGGUUGGUGGUUGAACCCGGGACUAAAAGCCUAACACGUGGCCUGCCGUAGUGGUGGCAACCAUUUGGUAUACCUCUUUAGUCCCGGUUGGUGGCUCAAACCGGGAUUAAAGGCCCAAAUGGUUUGCAUCCCGCGUCGUUUCGGGAGAUGAAAAGCACGAACCGAAGCGUACAGUCGCCAUUUCUCUGUUCUUCUUCUCUCUCACGUCGCCCUCUCUAUUCUUCUCCUCUCUCGCGUCGCCCUCUCUGUUCUUCUCCUCUCUUCUUCCCUUCUCUUGUUCCACCAUGCCAACUACCUUUCAUGAGGUGGUCGCGCAUGGGACGACCAAGCUCCGUGUCGUGUACACGAACCUGAGCACGGAGGUGCCGUUUUUCCUUCAACAGUUGAAGGAACGAUGGUUUAACCAUGCACCAGAUCAUGAGAAGUUCUUCGGGCUUGAUCUGAAGUACACGGCCGAUCAACGCGGUGUUGCCGUCAUCCAAAUAUGCUUCGCAAGCCAUGUCUUGAUCUUCCAAUGGGGGAGGUAAGUUUUGAGGCUUUCUUUGAUCCAAGAUAAUACAUUGUAUAAGUUUAUUUGUUUCUAUCAUAGUUGGUUCCCUUCAAAUAGUUGUAGUGAAACAAUUUUGAUUACUUGAAGGGGAGCACAAUCUAAUUGGAAUAGUGUUCCAUAAUCUGAAAAAUCGUAUUAGAAUAAACUAGUGUUUAAUAUGUUCCAUUGGAAUCAUAGUUGGUUCCCUUCAAAUAGUUGUAGUGAAACAAUUUUGAUUAGUUGAAGGGGAACACAAUCUGAUUGGAAUAGUGUUUCAUAAUCUGAAAAAUCGUAUUAGAAUGAACUAGUGUUUAAUAUGUUCCACUGGAAUCAUAGUUGGUUCGCUUCAAAUAGUUGUAGUGAAACAAUUUUGAUUAGUUGAAGGGGAACACAAUCUGAUUGGAAUAGUGUUCCAUAAUCUAAAAAAUCGUAUUAGAAUGAACUAGUGUUUAAUAUGUUCCAUUGGAACCAUAGUUGGUUCGCUUCAAAUAGUUGUAGUGAUCUCUCUAGGUUCCAUUGCAUAUGUUCUAUUUGAAUCCAAAAGAUAAGUUUCUCUUUAGUUGUAGUGAAACAUGUUUCCUUAUUGCAGCAGUAUGUAACAUUUGUUCCAUUCUAAUUUGUUUCUGUUGCAGGAGUGACAAGCAUUGUCCUGGACUCAUGGAGUUCCUUCGCAGCGGCGUCACUUUUGCUUCCGUUGACAUAUGGAACGACAGGCUGAAGAUGAGGCACAACUUCGGUAUUGAGAUACGAGCUGGUUGCCUCGUUGAUCUCCAAACGAUAUUCAGGCUUCGACAUGAGAGGACUUCGAUGGCUCAUAUGGCAGUUGCCUUGAUCGACGAUUCAUAUGGUGAUAUGAAGACCAGUUUCCCAAAGUCUCAGCACAGACUUUGGGAGAAGGGCCCACUUGAUGAUAUCAACAUUCAGUAUGCAGCAAAAGAUGCAUACGUUUCAUACGAGUUGUACCGCAAGAUUCGAGUCGUCAACUAUGGCCAGCGUCACCUCGAGGAAGGUGGGCAUUCUGAUUCAGAUGAUUCAGACGAGUAGUGUUCUUAACGUCGAACACUUGUAUAUAUAUAUCUAUGGUAGCUAUUAUUAUGUACUGUUUGGGCUAGUAUCAUGUACUUCUUGGACCAAUUUACAUAUGUCUAGUUUCUGUUUGUGCCAUUAUAGUUUCCCAAUUUGAAUGGUUUAGCCCUUUCUAACUUCGUUUGCUACUUUUGAAUGGUUUAGCCCUUUCUAACUUCAUGGUAUCAUGCAUUUCGACCACAUAUAUAUACAAAAAGUCUUUAGUUCAAAUAAGUUCAAAUAAGUUCAUGCAUUUCAACAUUUUCAGAGUUCAUUUGUAGUGCUUUUCAAUUUCAGGGUCAACUAGCUCAAAAAAAAAAGUAAAUGCACGAAAUAUACCAAAUGAAGUCAGAAAUUGUUGAAAUUUUGUGAUGUGCCUUUGAAUGGUGCAUUUUGAACACACAAAAAGUAUGGAGUUCAAAUAAGUUUAAAAAAAUGAAAUCCCUUUGUAAGAGAUGAGUUCUCGUUCGAAACCCUCCUACUUCGAGAGAGAUUGUCAGUUUUGUACACGAACUGCAUCCAGUUUUUGUCGUAGCCCUCUCAACUUUUUAACACAUGCUAUGUGGGUUAAAUGACUAUAGUAUGCCAACUUUCAACAUUUUCAGAGUACAUUUGUAGUGCUUUUCAAUUUCAGGGUCAACUAGCUCAAAAAAAAUUAAGUAAAUGCACGAAAUAUACCAAAUGAAGUCAGAAAUUGUUGAAAUUUUGUGAUGUGCCUUUGAAUGGUGCAUUUUGAACACACAAAAAGUAUGGAGUUCAAAUAAGUUUAAAAAAAUGAAAUCCCUUUGUAAGAGAUGAGUUCUCGUUCGAAACCCUGCUACUUCGAGAGAGAUUGUCAGUUUUGUACACGAACUGCAUCCAGUUUUUGUCGUAGCCCUCUCAACUUUUUAACACAUGCUAUGUGGGUUAAAUGACUAUAGUAUGCCAACUUUCAACAUUUUCAGAGUACAUUUGUAGUGCUUUUCAAUUUCAGGGUCAACUAGCUCAAAAAAAUAAGUAAAUGCACGAAAUAUACGAAAUGAAGUCAGWAAUUGUUGAAANNNNNNNNNNNNNNNNNNNNNNNNNNNNNNNNNNNNNNNNNNNNNNNNNNNNNNNNNNNNNNNNNNNNNNNNNNNNNNNNNNNNNNNNNNNNNNNNNNNNCUCCUUCUUCUUCUCCUUCUUCUUCUUAUCCUUUUGUCCCCUUCUUCUUAUCCUCCUCCCUCUCCUCCUUCUUCUUCUCCUUUUUCCUCUUCCUUCCUUUCAUUUUCCUCUUUUUCUCUUCUUGUCCCCUUCUUCGGGCUAAAUUGGCUAAGAAUGCCUUUUUGGAGCUAAUUAUGUCAUUUCGAGGAUAAUUAGCUAAGUAUAGGUCAUUUUUUAUUAAAUAGGCCAUUUUGGAGCUAACUAAGCUAAUUAUGUCCUUUCGUAGGAUAAUUAGCCAAUUUAGCCUUUCUUGGAUAAGUCUAAGCUACGUAGAAGAAGAGAUAGAGAAGAAGAAAUAAAAUAAGGAGGAGGAGGAGGAGGAGGAGAAGAAGAAGGAAGAGGAGAAGAAGAAGAAAAGAAGAAGGAGAAGGAGGAAGAAGAAGGAGUAGGAGGAGCUCCUUCUCCUUCUCCUCCUUCUUCUCCUUCUUCUCCUUCUUCUUCUCCUCCUCCCUGUCCUCCUUCUUCUCCUUAUUUUUCCUCUUCCCUCCUUUCAUUUUUCCUCUUUUUCUCUUCUUGUCCCCUUCUUCGGGCUAAAUUGGCUAAGAAUGCCUUUUUGGAGCUAAUUAUGUCAUUUCGAGGAUAAUUAGCUAAGUAUAUGUAAUUUUUUAUUAAAUAGGCCAUUUUGGAGCUAACUAAGCUAAUUAUGUCAUUUCGUAGGAUAAUUAGCCAAUUUAGCCUUUCUUGGAUGAGUCUAAGCUACGUAGAAGAAGAGAUAGAGAAGAAGAAGUAAAAUAAGGAGGAGGAGGAGGAGGAGGAGGAGAAGAAGGAAGAGGAGAAGAAGAAGAAAAGAAGAAGGAGAAGAAGGAGAAGAAGAAGGAGAAGGAGAAGGAGGAAGAAGGAGGAAGAAGAAGGGGAAGGAGGAGCUCCUUCUCCUUCUUCUCCUUCUUCUCCUUCUUCUUCUCCUCCUCCCUCUCCUCCUUCUUCUUCUCCUCAUUUUUCCUCUUCCUGCCUUUCAUUUUCCUCUUUUUCUCUUCUUGUCCCCUUCUUCGGGCUAAAUUGGCUAAGAAUGCCUUUUUGGAGCUAAUUAUGUCAUUUCGAGGAUAAUUAGCUAAGUAUAGGWCAUUUUUUAUUAAAUAGGACAUUUUGGAGCUAACUAAGCUAAUUAUGUCAUUUCGUAGGACAAUUGGCUAAUUUAGCCUUUCUUGGAUGAGUCUAAGCUACGUAGAAGAAGAGAUAGAGAAGAAGAAGUAAAAUAAGGAGGAGGAGGAGGAGGAGGAGGAGGAGAAGAAGAAGGAAGAGGAGAAGAAGAAGAAAAGAAGAAGGAGAAGAAGGAGAAGAAGAAGGAGAAGGAGAAGGAGGAAGAAGAAGGAGUAGGAGGAGCUCCUUCUCCUUCUCCUCCUUCUUCUCCUUCUUCUCCUUCUUCUUCUCCUCCUCCCUCUCCUCCUUCUUCUCCUCAUUUUUCCUCUUCCCUCCUUUCAUUUUCCUCUUUUUCUCUUCUUGUCCCCUUCUUCGGGCUAAAUUGGCUAAGAAUGCCUUUUUGGAGCUAAUUAUGUCAUUUCGAGGAUAAUUAGCUAAGUAUAGGUCAUUUUUUAUUAAAUAGGCCAUUUUGGAGUUAACUAAGCCAAUUAUGUUAUUAGAUGGAAGUCUAGCUAUUUUGGGGCUAACUAAGCUAAUUAUGUCAUUAGAUGGAAGUCUAGCUAUUUUUUAUUAAAACACUAGAAAUAACAUACCUAAGUUAGGGUGAAGCACGGUGGCUCUGGCUUGUUUCACCUGGAGAAGGCUGCCCUGGAGAAGGCUCGACUGUAGAAGGGUCAUGCGAUGCGUUUCGGGACAUAUUCUGCACCAAACAUCGUUUGCAAUGUGUAGUUAGCAUGAGGACACUCUUAAGAUCACUCCACUGAAAUGAAACUCACCGUCCCCGCCACGUUAAUGACUGGCAUCGGCGGAGGGACUUGGCCGUUCUUCUCGCACAUAGACUGUACAUUUGGUUUCGACAAGUCAAACUUUUUAUUUAUUAAUGAAACGGACAUUCAAAUGCAAGAUUUGAAAUAACAUGAAGAAGAAACUUACCACGAAGAGCUCGUAUAUGGCCCUGGUAGACGCUUCAUUCCGUGCCCUCUCCGCCUCCACCAAUGCAGUCGUCCUCUCCUCCAGCUCCCUAAUUUCCUUAUCCUUCUCCGCCAUAGCCGCCUGCAUUGCCGCUCUCUCUUUCUGAAUAGCAGCCUGCAACACAACUCAUUGUUAGCAAUGUAAUCAUAUUGGUUCCAACGCACAACAUAAUGCGGAAAGAUUGUUCAGUCCAUUAAACUAACCUCGAUGGCGAGCUCGACUGGCCGUGGACGACGUGUUAUCUCCGGACAAGAGCUCGUUUGGCGUGCCUUUAUCUACCGGAGAGUGCUAGGACAACGUAUAAGGCCGUCUCCAAUGGCGAUCGAGCCAUGGGGCCUCCCGUUGCCAGCUAUCAUCACCAGCUCUGGAUCAAUUGGCCCCUCGCUCGGGUUAAAGUCCUCCCCUUUCCUCGCCUUCCCGUGAUCUCUGUACUUCACGAGCUUGUCGUGGGAGGAGAUGUUGGUGAAGUUUUCUGGAUGCUCGAGGUCAGACUCACAGAAUGCCUUGACCUUCUUGUACGAGGCAGUAUGGGCCAUCGCAUACAGGUCGUACAUCUGUGGCGCCUCCGUCUUAUUGUGACGCGCCUAAAAGAGAGAGAGCAGAAAAUUGUAUUGGUAAAGGGCUCAAGAUAGCAUUAAGAAUGAAUUGCAUGAGGCAUGAACCAAACCACAUACCCAGUUCUCGCCAAAUUGGAUUAAGUUGACGCUCCCUUGAUGGUGUGGCACGCCAACCAUUUUGCCACGCCUCUCCUUGGCGUUGUUGUGGCUGGUCUCCCACGUUUUGGAGCACCACUGGUCCACCAAGGCCUCCCAACAAUCCAUCUUAUCCACACACCAUCUAGGGGGCACCUAAGUUAAUAAAGAGAAAUUUGAGUGCGUAAGAACCAAAUCAAGGAAACUAACUACAAAGCCUUAAUAAUAUGUAAUUACCUUCAUGUAAUGCUCCUUCUCCAUCUUAGCAUCAUGGCACUUCGCCUUAUCAAUCCUAAUACGCCGCGUGGCAUAGUAGUCUCGAACAGCCUGCACCCGAGCCUCGUGCCGAAAGUUUUGAAGUAGGCGGCGACAUUCGGUUUCGAUAACCUUUGCCGCGUCGUCCUCGUAUCCCUCCUCACACCUGUAGAAGGUCUGCAAACGGGACAACACCGAUUAGUACAAUAAAUAGCUAUGGUUAAUUUAUAAUUGUGUGAAAGAGAAAUUACCCAGAACUUUCGGAUCACCAUGUCCGCCCUCGUGUCACACAAAACACCGUCGAUCUCCACCUCCGGCGGGGCCAGGGCACCCAAGUAGUGCUCCCAGGUCAUCCCUACCUCUCGCUCCCGACCGGGCAACGUAACAAACCCUGGGAAGUUUUGACGGCAAAGAACACCGAGGACGCUGUUGGGCUUGCGGACACCCUUGGCAACAAUCCAACCCCUACAGUAUGACAAAUUAAAGCCAAAACAUUAGAUAUUUGAGAAAACGCGAAGGCAAAAGGUUAAAUAAGAGUAAAUUAACUUACUUGUCCCCAUUUGGCCUAAUCGAGCACCUCUGCUCGGGGGUCGCUGGCACGAGCGGGAGCCCCGAACUACCACGCUGGUAGACGGUAUCCCCCUCACCCAGCUCCUCGUCGCUACCAGCAUGGCAGUUGGCUCUGGCCAGGGAUCCCACUGGGUCUCUUGGGACGUACCCUCAUCCCUGCUGUGCUCCGCAGUCGUGUGGAAGGAAGCCUCUGGGACACGAGUCUCGUGGGUCAAAGGCUCGUCGACCUGAGGCUCGUCGACCCGAGGCUCGUGAACCGGAGACCGUGUAGCCUCCACCUCAGACGAAUCCACCCUAGAAGUCCUCCUGUGCUCAGGUGAAUCAGCUUGGGGUGGUGGCGGAGACCGUGUAUCCCUACCUCUCCCGCGGCCACGUGUACCUUUAGUACAACAUAAAUACCAACAUGAGUAAUAAAAUGUAUAUAAAUACCAAUAUGCAUACAACAUGAGUACAACAUAAAUACCAACACGAAUACAACGUGUACCUUUAGUGCCUCUCGGCUUCGCGGGUGGUCGACCUCCUCUCACGGGGGCCGCUCCUUGCAUACUAGAGAGCAACACUCUCCGAAGAGGCGAGGCCGGAAUGGAAGUACCCAUCCCAUCACCCGCCGACGAAGAAGCAGCCGCGGCAUGCUUUCGACCCUUUCCCACCAUCUUUCAACACCUGUCAUGACAAAGAGUAAAUGAAAUUAGUACAACAUAAAUACCAACAUGACUAAUAAAAAUUGAAUACCUAACAUGAACUCAAAAUUUAUAUAUAGUAUAAUAGUUGAAUACCUGACAUGAACUAAUAACAAUCGUCCUCGUCUAUAUAUGCUUCGGGGUCAAUAAAUGCAUCAUGAUCAUCACUAUCAUCAAUAAAUGCAUCAUCAUCAUCACUAUCUAGAAGAACAUGUGGAAGGCCACCAUUAUGUAAUCGGUCAAGAAGUGACAGGUCAUCCGCAGCAGUAACCUCUUCUUCUUCCAGAUCUUCCUCUUCGGGCUCAGGGGUUAAGACGGAUUCACUGUCACUGUCUACUUCAAUGUUCUGGGGUGAAGUAGAGCGGUUCUUGAAACGUUUCUUGGACAUACGUGUUUCUUGGAAGAAUUCUCCUUCAUAUGUGUCUGGGUUAAUGUGAGGUUCGUAAUCCUCUUCAUUGAGGGUAGGUGGUCUAAAAUGUGGUGGCACAUCAUAAACGACAUCCCAACCUUUGAGAUUUGGAUCAAUUUGGCAGGCCCACGGUAGAUAGAAAACUUGUGUCGCCUGUUGAGACAUAAUAUAGACAUCGGGAACAUCUAAGUGGGUGUUUUGGUUGAUUUCGACUAGUCCUAUAUGUUCAUGAGUCCUUCUAGUCUCCCUCGGCUCAAACCAAUAACAUUUGAAGACUACGACGGUCGGUGGGUUUUCACCAUAGAAUAGAAGUUCAUAAAUUGCUUCAACCCUUCCAUAAUACUCGGUGUCUCCUUCGCCGAUAGCAGAGACAGAACAAUUUGUAGUCUUUAGGUCGGGCAUAGAUAGCUCUUUGCCAAAGGUACGAAAGUGAUACCCGUUGAUGUUGUAUUUGUCAAAUGAACGGACCUUAUAGUCAAAACCAUUAGCGACUUGUCUCAACUCGGCGUCCAUAGACUCUGCAUCAGCCUACAAGUUUAAUACGAAAGAAUGGAUGCAUUAGCCGCAAAUUAGACCAAUAAUUCAAAUGGGCCCUUAAUGGUAAUUAAUUACCCUUUGUUUGAACCAAGAGAUGAAACCAGGAUAGUUGCCUCCAUGCUUUGCGAGAAGCUCAUACUCUUCGACGGAAUCCUUUUCGAUGACCGCUCCAUCCGAGAAUUCGGCGACGUAUCGACUAUAUCAAAUAUCCGGGAAUAAGAGUGGUUCAAAGCAAUUAGAAGUUGCGGAACAAUAAAUUACCGAGAACUUACUCGAUGUACGGCCGCACUUCUGUUAGGUUGGUGAAGAUAUACAAUGAAAUGGUCCGCCAUUCUUCGACAUCCAACGAUUUCCCUUUCGAAGCACCGGAUGGUGCGAGCUUACCUUUGAAUAGGCUGAGGUUGGAUCGAACUUUUUCUCGAUCGCCAUCAUUGUACCGAGGCUUCGGGUUAUGCAAAUGAUAAUUUUUGGCUUCGUAGUGUGCUGUCACGAAGUUUGCCGCCUCCUCAGUAAUGAAUGCCUCGGCCAUCGAUGCUUCAAUUCUACGUUUAUUUUUACACUUAGCUCGAAGCGUCUUCUGCAUCCUCUCAGUUGAGUAGCACCAUUGAUUUUGAACGGGCCCCCCCAUUCUUGCCUCGGUCGGGAGAUGCAAAAUCAAAUGUUGCAUUGGAUUAAAGAAGCCCGGUGGAAAGAUCUUUUCUAAUUUGCAGACCAACUCCGGCGCCAACUCUUCCAUUUCAUCUAGCACGCCAGGCGAUAGUUCUUUCGCACGAAGAGAACGGAAGAAAUAGCUCAGCUCUGCCAGUACUAGCCAUUCAUCCUCAGGGAUAAAGCCACGCAACAUCACCGGCAUUACCCGCUGAAUCCAUAUGUGCCAAUCAUGACUCUUGAGCCCAAAUAUUUUCAAUUUCUCAAGACUUGCUCCCCUCUUUAGAUUCGCAGCAUACCCAUCGGGGAACAUCAACCGCAUUUUCACCCACAAUAGCAUUUCCCUCAUAGCUGGCCUUUCAAGAUUGAACCAUGCCUUUGGCUUCGCUAUGCUUUGCUUUCCUUUCCGUUGUCGCAAGUUUUGCAACGGUCUAUCACAUAGAGCCUCCAGGUCGAUUCUAGCCUUAGGAUUAUCUUUUGACUUCCCCUCUAUGCCGAACAAUGUACCAAAAAUGGCCUCCGCAAUAUUCUUUUCAGUGUGCAUCACGUCAAUGUUGUGUGGGCAAAGGAGGUCUUUGAAGUAAGGGAGAUCCCAUAAGCAUGACUUGUGAGUCCAGGCGUGUUCCGUAUUAUACCCUUUGAAGUAUCCUGGACGCAAAGGAUCGGGCUCGAGAGCGUUUAACUGAUCAAGGGUCUGUUGGCCUGUCAACGCAGCUGGUGCAGUGUUUUUGACAACUCUACCUUUGAUGAAAUUCUUCUUGUCUUUUCUGAACUUAUGGUCAGGAUCCAGGAAUUGUCUAUGCAUGUCGAAGCAAGAAUACUUGCGACCAUCCUGCAGCCAACGGAACUGAAGAGCUGCCUUGCAUGUGGUGCACGGGAACCUUCCAUGCACACACCAGCCAGCGAAUAGCGCAAACGCCGGAUAAUCAUGCGUCGAGUACAUGUACCACACAUGCAUUUUGAAAUUUGUUUUGGUAGCCGCGUCGUAGGUCUUGAUCCCAUUAUCCCAGGCUUCUUGCAACUCAUCCUUAAGCGGCUGCAUGUACACAUUCAUAUUCUUCCCCGGAUAGUUGGGCCCUGGAACUAUCAACGUCAGGAAAAUGUUCUUUCUUUUCAUAAUCUCUCCGGGUGGCAAAUUUAGUGGAAUGACAAAUACAGGCCAACAACUGUAUUGUGCUGCCGUCAUACCAUACACAUUGAACCCAUCCGUGCUGAUGGCAACUCUAGGUUGCCUUGGAUCUUCCGAUUUAUCCUUAUGUAAUGCAUCGAAGUGCCUCCACGCAAAACCAUCUGAAGUGUGUACCAGCAUCUUGUUCCCAUCCGCAUCUAGUUCGGUUCUUUUGCCCAAUUUGUGCCAUGUCAUCUGUCCGGCCGUCUCUUCGACCAUGAAAAGACGUUGAAGUCUUGGUACGAUUGGCAAAUAUUGAAGAACACUAAUGGGGAUUUUGGUCUGAUUCUUCUCACCCAUGCCGUUGUCUACCACAAUAUACCUGGAAGAAUUGCAAAUGGGGCAAUAGUUCAAGGCCGCAUACUCAAGCCUAAAUAAGGCACAUCCAUUCUCACAGGCAUGUAUCUUCUCAUAGGGCAUCUUAAGUACACGGAGGAUUUUCUCCGACUGGUACAGGUUUGCAGGCAGUACAUGGCCUUUGGGUAGAAAGCGUCCAAAUAUCGUCAUCAUCGCGUCGUAGCAUUCUCUGCCUAGGUUGAGUUGAGCCUUCAGAGCCAUUACUUGCGCGAUGACAUCCAGCUGACAAAGCUCAGUCUGCUCGUGGAGAGGACAUUUUGAAGACUCCAGCAUUUCAUAGAAGGCCUUUGCAGAUUCCUCCAUCUCAUCGUCCGAAUCCCGAGCAUCAUCAAAGUCUUGCACCAUGUCUUCAAUCCCGGUACCAUGCUCGUCGGUGCGACGACGAAUCACCUCAGCUCUGGCACGUUGGUCAGACUCACCAUGAAAAGUCCACACCGUAUAAUUAGGCGUAAAACCCCACUUCUGCAAGUGUUUACCCAUUUCAAACUCUGUCUGCUUUUUCCAGUUGUCGUAGUUGGGACACGGGCACCAUGUUUUUUGCUGGCCAUUUGCAAAUGCGGCUCUCACAAACCCCCUGGUUUUUGUUAACCAUUCAUGGGUCAUGUCUUUCUGACUAGGGUGACCAGUGUACAUCCAAGCACGAUCACUCAUGUUGCCUAGCUACCUAUGGGGGCACAAGAAAUAAAUACAUAAUUCAUCAUCUAUAUUCAUACGCUAAUCAAGUUUGUCAGUUUUAUUACGUCCAUGCAACCUACACGCUAAUAGGUAAAGAUAGGUCCUAAUCCCACCCGAGUAUGUGUAGACUGGGUUCGUUUUCCCGUGCUCUGCUCCAGAUGCGACGCAGAAUUUCGGCAGCACCUCCCCGCUGUUCUCCUGAUACACGUCUCGGCAAUAAGCAGAGAGGAUGUGUACCCGGAGAACAACAGGGGAGGCACUGACGAAAUUCCGCAUCGGAUCCGGAGCACAGCAUACGGGAAAACAAACCCAAUCUACACAUACUCGGGCUGUCGAUGGAUAAUGUUGGACAAUUCGAAAGGAUGGCGGUUAUAAAUAUGCAAAGAAAUGCAUAUUUAUAGAUGUCGCCCUUUCGAACGGGAGACGCAUACUGGUCACGCAUACUCAUGAUUGAAGAAACCUAUAGCUAGCAAGUUUCAUCGGCACGAAGACCGGGACAGAGCAAAUUGAGGGGGUAGGAGGAGAAGUCAUUUGUGCUCACCAACAAACGCAAGGGCGGAGCUCGUCCAACGCACGUGGAGGUCGUCGAACAACUGCACAUUGAAAUUCACCCGAUCAACACAAAUACGAUGUUUUUAUAAUUAACAUGAUCGGAAAAUAUGUGACCUAACUCAUAAUUUACAAAACUAUGACCCCGUGGGCCUCUGGAAGGCCGAAAAGCACCUUCUCGUUCAAAAGAAGGCAGAAGAGGUGUCGGGGGUCGGGGCUUAGUGGCGUCGGGAGUCAGUGCCGUCGAGGGUCGGUGGCAUCGGGGGUCGGGGGGUUAGUGGCGUCGGUUGUGGGGGGUCAGUGGCGUCGGGGGUCCAGGGUCAGUGGCGUCGGGGGUCCAGGGUCAGUGACGUCGGGUGUCAGUGGCGUCGGGGGGUCGGGAGUCGUGGGCCGAGGGUCUGGGUCGGGGGCAGUGGCGUCGGGGUCGAGGGUUAGUGGCGUCNNNNNNNNNNNNNNNNNNNNNNNNNNNNNNNNNNNNNNNNNNNNNNNNNNNNNNNNNNNNNNNNNNNNNNNNNNNNNNNNNNNNNNNNNNNNNNNNNNNNUCUCUCUCUCUCUNUNUNUCUUCUUCUUCUGUUCUUCUUCUUCUUCUUUCUUUUCAUUUUGCCUAUUUCUUCUCCGCUUCUCCUCAUGUUGGAGCUAAAUUACCUAAUUAUGUCUUUUUKGAGCUAAAUGGGCUAAUUAUCCCAUUUUAGAGGAAAACAAGCUAAGUAUAUAAUAUUCAUGAGCUAACCAAGGUUCUGAUGCCAUUUUGAGCUUAUUAUGGCAUUUUGGAGCUAAAUGGGCUAAUUAUGUCAUUGUUGGGGAAAUUAAAGCAAGGAUAAUAUGAAAGAGGAGAAGAAAGAGGAGGAGGAGGAGAAGAAGAAGAAAUCAAGAAGAAGGAGGAGAAGGAGAAGGAGGAGAASNNCUAKMUCCUCCUYSKCCUCCUCCUCCUCCUUCUCCUUCUUCUCUUCUUCUUCUUCUUCUUUAUUUUUAUUUUUCCUAUUUCUUCUCCUCUUCUUGGAGCUAAAUUACGUAAUUAUGUUUUUUUGGAGCUAAAUGGGCUAAUUAUCUCAUUUUAGAGGAAAACAAGCUAAGUAUAUAAUAUUCAUGAGCUAACCAAGGUUGACCAAGAAUGAAAUGGUCCAUUAUUGAUAAUUACCGUUUGUUUGAACCAAGAGAUGAAACCGGGAUAGCCGCCUCCUGUCUUUGACAGAAGCGCAUAAUCUUCGACGGAAUCAUUUUCGAUCACCGCUCCAUCCGAGAAUUUGACGAUGUAAGGGCUGUUUGAAAUAUCCGGGAAUAAGAGCAGUUCAAAUGAAUUAGAAGUUACGGGAAAAUGUGUCGAGAACUCACUCGAUGUACGGCCGCACUUCUGGUAGGUUGUUGAAGAUAUACAACGAAAUGUUCCGCCAUUCUUCGACAUCCAACGUUAUUGGUUUCGAAGCACCGACUGGUGCGAGCUUCCCUUUGAAUAGGCUGAGGUUGGACCCACCUUUUUUAUGGUCUGCAUCAUUGUGCCGAGGCUUCGGAUUAUGCAGAUGAUGAUUUUUGGCUUCGUAGUGUGCUGUCACAAAGUUUGCCACCUCCUCAGUAAUGAAUGACUCAGCCAUCGAUGCUUCAAUUCAACGCUUAUUCUUACAUUUAGCUCGAAGGGUCUUCUGCAUCCUCUCAGUUGCAUAGCACCAACGAUCUUGCACGGGCCCACCCAAUCUUGCCUCGGUCAGUAGAUGUAAAAUCAAAUGCUGCAUUGGAUUAAAGAAGCCCGGUGGAAAGAUCUUCUCUAACUUGCACAACAACUCCAGUGCAAACUCCUCCAUGUCUUCUACCACGCCAGGCGACAAUUCUUUCGCACAAAGAACAUGAAAGAAAUAGCUCAGCUCCGCCAGUACUAGCCAUUCAUCCUCGGGAAUAAAGCCACAUAACAUCACCGGUAUUACCCGCUCUAGCCAUAUGUGCCAAUCAUGACUCUUGAGACCAAAGAUUUUUAAUUUUUCAAGACUCGCUCCCCUCUUUAGAUUCGCUGCAUACCCAUCGGGGAACAUCAAGUGCAUUUUGACCCACAAGAUAAUUUCCCUCAUAGCUGGCCUUCCAUGAAUGAACCAGGCCUUUGGCUUCGACCACUUCUGCUUUCCUUUGCCUUCUCGCAUGUUUUGUAAUGGUCUAUGACAUAGUGUCUCUUGAUCGACUCUAGCCUUAAUAUUAUCCUUUGUCUUCCCAUCUAUGUCGAACAAUGUACCAAAAAUAGCCUCUCCGAUAUUAUUUUCAGUGUGCAUCAUGUCGAUAUUGUGUGGAAGAAGGAGGUCUUUGAAGUAAGGCAGAUCCCAGAAGCAUGGCUUGUGAGUCCAGGCGUGUUUUGAAUUAUAACCCUUGAAAUACCAUGGACGCUCUGGAUCAGGCUCGAGGGCGUUUAACUCAUCCAAGAUCUGUUGGCCUGUGAACGCAGGUGGUGCCAAGUUCUUGACAACUUUACCUUUAUUAAAGUUCUUCUUGUCUUUUCUGAACUGAUGGUCAGGAUCCAGGAACUGUCUAUGCAAGUCAAAGCAAGAAUACUUCCGACCCUCCUGCAACCAAUGAAACUGAAGAGCUGCCUUGCAUUUGGGGCACGGGAACCUUCCAUGCACACACCAUCGAGAGAAUAGUGCAUACGCUGGCAAGUCAUGCAUAGAGUACAUGUACUGUUGGAAUUAUGCCCUAGAGGCCAUAAUAAAUAUAGUUAUUAUUAUAAUUCCUGUAUCAAGAUAAUCGUUUAUUAUCCAUGCUAUAAUUGUAUUGAAUGAAGACUUAUAUACAUGUGUGGAUACAUAGACAAAACACUGUCCCUAGCAAGCCUCUAGUUGGCUAGCCAGUUGAUCAAAGAUAGUCAGGGUCUUCUGAUUAUGAACAAAGCGUUGUUGCUUGAUAACUGGAUCAUGUCAUUAGGAGAAUCACGUGAUGGACUAGCCCAAACUAAUAGACGUAGCAUAUUGAUCGUGUCAUUUUAGUGCUACUGUUUUCUGCGUGUCAAGUAUUUGUUCCUAUGACCAUGAGAUCAUAUAACUCACUGACACCGGAGGAAUGCUUUGUGUGUAUCAAAUGUCGCAACGUAACUGGGUGACUAUAAAGAUGCUCUACAGGUAUCUCCGAAGGUGUUCGUCGAGUUAGUAUGGAUCGAGAGUGGGAUUUGUCACUCCGUGUGACGGAGAGGUAUCUCGGGGCCCACUCGGUAAUACAACAUCACACACAAGCCUUGCAAGCAAUGUGACUUAGUGUAAGUUGCGGGAUCUUGUAUUACGGAACGAGUAAAGAGACUUGCCAGUAAACGAGAUUGAAAUAGGUAUGCGGAUACUGACGAUCGAAUCUCGGGCAAGUAACAUACCGAAGGACAAAGGGAAUGACAUACGGGAUUAUAUGAAUCCUUGGCACUGAGGUUCAAACGAUAAGAUCUUCGUAGAAUAUGUAGGAUCCAAUAUGGGCAUCCAGGUCCCGCUAUUGGAUAUUGACCGAGGAGUCACUCGGUUCAUGUCUACUUGGUUCUCGAACCCGCAGGGUCUGCACACUUAAGGUUCGACGUUGUUUUAUGCGUAUUUGAGUUAUAUGGUUGGUUACCGAAUGUUGUUCGGAGUCCCGGAUGAGAUCACGGACGUCACGAGGGUUUCCGGAAUGGUCCGGAAACGAAGAUUGAUAUAUAGGAUGACCUCAUUUGAUUACCGGAAGGUUUUCGGAGUUACCGGGAAUGUACCGGGAAUGACGAAUGGGUUCCGGAUGUUCACCGGGGGGGGCAACCCACCCCGGGGAAGCCCAUAGGCCUUGGGGGUGGCGCACCAGCCCUUAGUGGGCUGGUGGGACAGCCAAAGAAGUCCCUAUGCGCCAUAGGAAGAAAAUCAAAGAGAAAAAAAAGGGAGGUGGGAAAAAGGGGAAGGACUCCUCCUUCCAAACCUAGUUGGAUUCGGUUUGGAAGGGGAGGACUCCCCCCCCUUGGCUCGGCCGAACCCCUUGGUGGUCCUUGGACCCCAAGGGAAGGCUCCCCCUCUUCCUCCUAUAUAUACGGAGGUUUUAGGGCUGAUUUGAGACAACUUUGCCACGGCAGCCCGACCACAUAUCUCCACGGUUUUACCUCUAGAUCGCGUUUCUGCGGAGCUCGGGCGGAGCCCUGCUGAGAUAAGAUCACCACAAACCUCCGGAGCACCGUCACGCUGCCGGAGAACUCAUCUACCUCUCCGUCUCUCUUGCUGGAUCAAGAAGGCCGAGAUCAUCGUCGAGCUGUACGUGUGCUGAACGCGGAGGUGGUCCGUUCGGCACUAGAUCGUGGGACUGAUCGCGGGGCGGUUCGCGGGGCGGAUCGAGGGACCUGAGGACGUUCCACUACAUCAACCGUGUUCACUAACACUUCAGCUGUGCGAUCUACAAGGGUACGUAGAUCGAAUAUCCCCUCUCGUAGAUGGACAUCACCAUGAUAGGUCUUCGUGCGCGUAGUAAAUUUUUUGUUUCCCAUGCGACGUUACCCAACAGUGGCAUCAUGAGCUAGGUUCAUGCGUAGAUGUCUUCUCGAGUAGAACACAAAAGUUUUUGUGGGCGGUGAUGUGCGUUUUGCUGCCCUCCUUAGUCUUUUCUUGAUUCCGCGGUAUUGUUGGAUCGAAGCGGCUUGGACCGACAUUACUCGUACGCUUACGAGAGACUGGUUUCAUCGCUACGAGUAACCCCGUUACUCAAAGAUGACUGGCAAGUGUCAGUUUCUCCAACUUUAGUUGAAUCGGAUUUGACCGAGGAGGUCCUUGUAUAAGGUUAAAUAGCAAUUCAUAUAUCUCCGUUGUGGUGUUUGCGUAAGUAAGAUGCGAUCCUACUAGAUACCCAUGGUCACCAUGUAAAACAUGCAACAACAAAAUUAGAGGACGUCUAACUUGUUUUUGCAGGGUAUGCUUGUGAUGUGAUAUGGCCAACGAUGUGAUGUGAUAUAUUGGAUGUAUGAGAUGAUCAUGUUGUAAUAGAUAAUAUCGACUUGCACGUCGAUGGUACGGCAACCGGCAGGAGCCAUAGGGUUGUCUUUAAACUAACGUUUGUGCUUGCAGAUGCGUUUACUAUUUUGCUAGGAUGUAGCAUUAGUAGUAAUAGCAUGAGCAGCACGACAACCCUGAUGGUGACACGUUGAUGGAGAUCAUGGUGUGGCGCCGGUGACAAGAAGAUCGUGCCGGUGCUUUGCUGAUGGAGAUCAAGGAGCACGUGAUGAUGGCCAUAUCAUGUCACUUAUGAAUUGCAUGUGAUGUUAAUCCUUUUAUGCACCUUAUUUUGCUUAGAACGACGGUAUCAUUAUGAGGUGAUCUCUCACUAAACUUUCAAGACGAAAUUGUGUUCUCCCAGACUGUGCACCGUUGCUACAGUUCGUCAUUACGAGACACCACGUGAUGAUCGGGUGUGAUAGACUCAACGUUCACAUACAACGGGUGCAAACCAGUUGCACACGCGGAACACUCGGGUUAAGCUUGACGAGCCUAGCAUCUGCAGACAUGGCCUCGGAACACAUGAGACCGAAAGGUCGAUCAUGAAUCAUAUAGAUGAUAUGAUUAGCAUAGGGAUGCUUACCACUGAAACUAUACUCAACUCACGUGAUGAUCGGUAUUGAGAUAGUGUAAGUGGAUCAUGAACCACUCAAAUGACUAGAGAUAUGUACUUUUUGAGUCCACUUUGAAUAUAGUCUUGAACAUAGUCUAAGUCCACUAUGAAUAUAUUUGUGUUGUAGAUCAUGGCUCACGCGACAGUCACCCUGAAUUUUAAUACGUUCCUAGAGAAAGCUAAGUUGAAAGAUGAUGGAAGCAACUUUGUAGACUGGGCUCGUAAUCUUAAGCUAAUCUUACAAGCUAGGAAGAAGGAUUAUGUCCUUAAUGCUGCACUAGGAGAUGAACCACCCGCUACGGCUGACUAGGAUGUUAAGAACGCUUGGUUAACACGUAAGGAGGACUACUCAGUAGUUCAAUGUGCAGUCUUGUAUGGCUUAGAACCGGGACUUCAACAUCGCUUUGAGAGUCAUGGAGCAUAUGAGAUGUCCCAGGAGUUGAAGUUUAUCUUUCAGAAGAACGCCCGGAUCGAGAGGUAUGAGACCUUCGAUAAAUUCUAUGCUUGCAAGAUGGAGGAGAAUUCGUCUGUCAGUGAACAUGUGCUCAAAAUGUCUGGGUACUCAAACCGUCUAGCUGAGCUGGGGAUUGAACUCCCGCAAGAGGCUAUCACUGACAGGAUCCUUCAGUCACUGCCGCCAAGCUAUAAAGGCUUUGUGUUGAACUACAACAUGCAAGGGAUGAACAAGUCACCCGGCGAGUUGUUUGCGAUGCUGAAAGUCGCAGAGUCUGAACUCCAUAAAGAGCAUCAAGUGUUGAUGGUGAAUAAGACCACUAGUUUCAAGAGAAACGGCAAAGGCAAGACGGGUAAUUCAAAGAAGAGCGGCAAGCCUGUUGCCAAUCCGAUGAAGAAACCCAAAGCUGGACCUAAGCCUGAAACAGAGUGUUACUAUUGCAAGGGUAUGGGUCACUAGAAGCGCAACUGCCCCAAGUAUCUGGCUGAUAAGAAGGCGGCCAAAGAAAAAUCAGGUAUAUUUGAUAUACAUGUUAUUGAUGUGUACUUAACCGGCACUCGUAGUAGUGCCUGGGUAUUCGAUACCGGUUCUGUUGCUCAUAUUUGCAACUCGAAACAGGAACUGCGGAAUAGACGAAGGCUGGCGAAAGAUGAAGUGACGAUGCGCGUAGGAAAUGGUUCCAAGUUUGAUGCAAUCGCCGUCGGCACAGUUUCACUUCAGUUACCAUCAGGAUUAGUUAUGAACUUGAAUCAUGGUUAUUUAGUGCCUGCGUUGAGCAUGAACAUUAUAUCUGGAUCUUGUUUAUUGCGAGACGGUUACUCUUUUAAUUCAGAGAAUAAUAGUUGUUCUAUUUCUAUGAGUAACAUCUUUUAUGGUCAUGCACCCAAUGUGAGAGGAUUGUUCAUAUUGAAUCUUGAUAGUGAUACACACAUACAUAACAUUGAGACCAAAAGAGUUAAAGUUAACAAUGAUAGCGCCAUAUUUUUGUGGCACUACCGCUUAGGUCAUAUUGGUGUAAAGCGCAUGAAGAAACUCCAUGCCGAUGGACUUUUGGAGUCACUUGACUUUGAUUCACUUGACACGUGCGAACCAUGCCUCAUGGGCAAGAUGACUAAAACUCCGUUCUCCGGAACAAUUGAGCGUGCUAGUGACUUGUUGGAAAUCAUACAAGGGUACGUAGAUCGAAUAUGCCCUCUCGUAGAUGGACAUCACCAUGAUAUGUCUUCGUGCGCGUAGGAAAUUUUUUGUUUCCCAUGCGACGUUCCCCAACAUGUACCACACAUGCAUUUUGAAGUUUUUUUUUCUAGCGGCAUCGUAUGUCUUGACCCCAUUAUCCCAAGCUUCUUCCAAUUCAUCCUUAAGCGGUUGCAGAUACACAUUCAUAUUCUUCCCCGGAUAAUUGGGCCCUGGAAUUAUCAACGUCAGAAAUAUGAUCUUUCUUUGCAUAAUCUGCCUAGGGGGGAGAUUGAGUGGAAUGACAAAUACAGGCCAACAACUGUAUUGGGUUGUCGUCAUGCCGAAGGGAUUAAAACCGACCGUGGCGGCACAGACUCGAGGAUUCCUUGGAUCUGUCGCUUUAUCUUGAUGCAAUCCAUCGAAAUGUUUCCACGCUUCCCCAUCCGAUGUGUGUACCAUCAUCUUAUUCCCAUCCGCAUCUAGUUCGGUUCUUUUGCCCAAUUUGUGCCUUGUCAUCUGUCUGGCUGUCUCUUCGACCAUGAAAAGACGUUGAAGUAUUGGUACGAUUGUGAUAUACCGAAGAACACUAACUGCGAUUUUGGUCUGCCUCUUCUCACCCAUACCGUUGUCUAUCACAAGAUACUUGCAAGACUCACAAUUGGGACAAUAGUCCAAGUGUUCAUACUCCUUCCUAAAUAAGACACAUCCUUUCUCACAUGCAUCUAUCUUCUCAUAGGGCAUCUUAAGUACACGAAGUAUUUUGUCCGACUGGUACAGGUUUGCAGGAAUGACAUGGCCUUUGGGUAGGAAACGUCCAAAUAGUGUCAUCAUCGCGUCAUAGCAUUCUCUUCCCAAGUUGAACUGAGCCUUCAGAGCCAUUACUUGUGCAAUUGCAUCCAGCUGACAGAGCUCAGUGUGCUCAUGGAGAGGACGUUUUGAAGACUCCAACAUUUCACAAAAGGCCUUUGCAGAUUCCUCCAUCUCAUCUUCCGAAUCCCGAGCAUCAUCAAAGUCUUGCACCAUGUCUUCCAUCCCGGUACCAUGCUCAUCCGUGCGACGACGGACCACCUCAGCUCUUGUGCGUUGUAUAGACUCACCAUGAAAUGUCCACACCGUAUAAUUAGGCUUAAAACCCCUCCUCUACAGGUUUUUAGUCAUUACAACCUCUGUCGUCUUUUUAUAGUUGUCGCAUCCAGGACAGGGGCAAUAGUUUCUUUCCUGGCCAUUUGCGAAUGCGGCUUUCACAAAUUGCUUUGUUUUUAAAAACCAUUCUUUCGUCAUCUCUUUCUGCCUAGGGUGACCGGUAUACAUCCACGCACGAUCACUCAUCUUGCGUAGCUACUAAAGACAGAAGAAAUAUAUUUAUAUAUAAUUUAGCAUUUAUAUUCAUCGGUUAAUCAGGUUCGCCAUUUUUAUUAUGUCCAGGCAACCUACAUGCUAAUAGGUAAAGAUAGGUCCUAAUCCCACCCGAGUAUGUGUAGAUUGGGUUCGUUUUCCCAUGCUCUGCUCCGGAUCCAAUGCAAAAUUUCGACAACACCUCCCCGCUGUUCUCCUGAUACACGUCUCCGCAAUAAACAGAGAGGAUGUGCAUCCAGAGAACAGCAGGGAGGCACUGAUGAAAUUCCGCAUCGGAUCCAGAGCACAUCAUACGGGAAAACGAACCCAAUCUACACAUGCUCGGGCUAUCCAUGGAUAAAGUUGGACAAUUCGAAAGGAUGGCGGUUAUAAAUAUGCAAAGACAUGCAUAUUUAUAGAUGUCGCCCUUUCGAACGGGAGACGCAUACUGGUCACGCAUACUGAUAAAUUAAUUGAAUUACCUAAAUCUAGAAAGUUUCAUCCGGAAACCGAGCCACAGUAAAUGAAGGGGCGGGGAGGAGAUGAAAUUUGUACUGACCCACGAAUGCAGGGGCGGAGCUCGUACAACGCACGGGCAGGUCUUCGCACAGCAGACCUCACAGCGACGAGACAACUACCACAUGUAAAUCCACCCGAUCAACGCAAAUAUUCCAAUUAUGUCAUUUUAGAGGAAAACAAGCUAAGUAUAUAAUAUUCAUGAGCUAACCAAGGUUCUUAUGCCAUUUUGAGCUUAUUAUGGUAUUUUCGAGGUAAAUGGGCUCAUUAUGUCAUUGUUGGGUUAAUUAAAGCAAGGAUAAUAUGAAAGAGGAGAAGAAAGAGGAGGAGGAGGAGAAGAAGAAGAAAUCAAGAAGAAGGAGGAGAAGGAGGGGGAGGAGAAGGACUAGAAGGUCCUUGGCCUUCUCCUCCUCCUCCUCCUCCUCCUCCUCCUUCUCCUUCUUCUCUUCUUCUUCUUCUUCUUUAUUUUAAUUUUUCCUAUUUCUCCUCCUCUUGUUGGAGCUAAAUUACCUAAUUAUGUCUUCUUGGAUCUAAAUGGGCUAAUUAUCUCAUUUUAGAGGAAAACAAGCUAAAUUUGGAGGAGAAACUUACCGUAGUGGUCAUCAACGAGGAGAAACACCACGGUUGCUCGCGGCGGCUUCGUUUGGAGACGGUUGCCCUGGAGAAGGGUCGUGCGAUGCCGCUUGGGAGUUAUUCUGCAGAGAAGAUAUUUUGCAAUGUCUUAGUUUGCAUGAUGACACUCAAUUAUUAAUACUAGUUUAUAAUGAAACUCACCGUGCCAAUCGAAGAGAAGACGGGCAUCGGCGGAGGGACUUGACCGCUCUUCUCGCACAGACCCUGAAGAGUGGGUCGUAUUAGUUGGUAUUGAAACAUACAUUACACACAUGAUUUGGCUAAUGUGAAUAAAACAUACCACAGAAAGCUCGUACAGGGCCCGUUGACCCGCCUCAUUCCGAGCCCUCUCCUCCUCAAGCAAUCGUGCUCUGGUCUGGUCCCUCUCAUCAAGAGCAGCCUGAAGAGCAGCCUGGCUUGCCAAUCUCUCUUUCUCAAGAGCAGCGUGGUUUGCCGCUCUCUCUUUCUGAAGAGCAGCCUGAAACACCAUUCCUCGUUACCACAGUAAUGAUCUAUGGUGACACAGAUAAUGAAAUGGAUGAAAGUGUUCUUAGUCCAUACAACUAACCUUGAUGGCAAGUUCGACUGGCCGUGGACGACGCGUUAUCUCAGGACAGUUGCUCGACUGGCGCGCCUUGAUCUCCGGAAGAGUGAGUGGACAACGUAUUAUCCCAUCUCCAAUGGCUAUCGAGCCAUGGGGCCUCCCGCCACCAGAUAUCAUCACCAGCUCUGGAUCCAAAGGUUCCUGGCUAGGGUUAAAGUCAUCCCCUUUCGUAGCCUUCCCCGCGUCCCUGUAUGCCACGAGCUUCUGGUGGGAUGAUAUGUUGGUAAAGUUAUUGGGAUCAUCCAGGUCAGACUCAGAGAAUGCCUUCGCCUUCUUGUACGAGGCAGUAUGGGCCAUGCCAUAAAGGUCGUACAAGUGUGGCAUCUCAGUCUUAUUGUGAUGCGCCUAAAAGAGAGGAACACAAUAUUAGCAUCAAGAAUGAAUUGCAUGAAUCAUGAAGCAAAUCACAUACCCAGUUUCGUCCAAACUGAAGUAAGUUGGCGCUGCCUUGAUGGUGUGGCACACCAACUAUUUGGCUACGCCGAUCCUUCGCAUUCUCGUGGAUGGCUCGCCAGCUGCGUGUGCACCACUCAUCAACAAACGCCCCCCAACAAUCCAUCUUAUCCGCACACCAUCUCGGGGGCACCUGUAAGUUAUUAGAAAGAAUUUUCAGCGCUACGCCUAUGAAUGAAAUCAAGAAAACUACGUAGAAGGACUUAAGAAUAGGUAAUUACCUUCAUGUAUUGCUCCUUCUUCAGAAACUUUCCAAAUCAAUCCUUCUUCGUCUUCUUAAUACCACGCGUGGCGUAGUAAUCUCGAAUAGCCUGCGGCCGAGCCUCGUGGCGCAAGUUCUGUAGUAACCGCCUACACUCGACCUCGAGAACCCUGGCCGCCUCCUCCUCAUAUCCAUCCUCACACCUAUAGAAGGUCUGCAAUCAAACGUGAAAACACCGAUUAGUACAAUAAUUAGCUAUAUUGUUAAUUUUAGAUCCUGUAAAAGGAUAAUUUACCCAAAAGCUCUUGAUCACCAUCUCGGCCCUCGUGUGGCACAAGACACCAUCUAUAAUCUCCUCCGGCGGGGCCUGCGCAGCCUGGUAGUGCUCCCAGGUAAAUCCUAGUGUAGGAACCUGACCCUCACCACGCAACGUGAAAACCCCGGGGAAAUUUGUCUGGCAAAGCACACAAUGGACGGAGUUCGGCCUGCGGACUCCAAGAGGGUGUACCCAUCCCCUGCAGUAUGAUAAGGUCAGCGCAUUAGAUAUUUGAAUAAACUUGAAGGCAAAAGCUAAAAAAGGGUAAAUGUACUUACCUAUCUCCUUCAGGUUUAAUCACCGGCCUCUGCUCGCGGGUAGCCGGGGCGACCGGGAGACGUGUACUACCACGCUUGUACACGGUGGCCCCGUCCACCUGCACAUCGCCCUCACUAUCCGUAAGCUCAUCCCCGCCAUCCCCGCCCCCUGAGCCACCCGGACCCUCGGUCCAAUCCGGCAACUCGGUACGAUCCGGCCAGAUCUCCCAUCCGGCCCUCUCCACGUCGGGUGAAGCCUCCGGAACCCUAGUCUCCUCCGGCUGCUCCUGGGCCGAAUGCACCUCGACCCGAGGCUGCUCCUGGACCGGAGUCUCAUGGGACGAAUGCCCGUGAACAGCAGGCUCCUGGACCGGAGUCCCCGUAGCCUCCUCCGCAAACGGGUCGACCGUACUAGUCCUAUGCUCGGGUGAAUGAGCUAGUGGUGGUGGCGAGGACGGCUCAACAGUCCUCCUGGAUCUUCCGCGGCCACCACCUCUCCCUGUACCCUUCCCCUCCUUCCCUACCCGACCAGCACCUCUCCCAGUGGGCAAUGCCGCCGACAAAGAAGAACCCACGGCUGGUGUCGAAAGACUGUCUGCCAAGGCUCUACAGAGAGAUAGGGGUGGAAGGGAAGUACCACCCCUCGUGCGGGGCGCCUCGGAAGAACCCGUCGAGCGAUCUCGACCCGCGCCCACCAUCUUUCAACACCUGCCAUGAUAAAGAUUAAAAGAAAUUAGUACAACAUAAAAAAAWUUGAAUGACUGACAUGAAUAAUAAUAUGUACAUGAAUAAUAAAGAUUAAAAUAUAUAUAAUUUAAGUUGUGAAUCUUACAAACUAAUAAUCAUCAUCAAUAAAUGCAUCAUCAUCAUCACUAUCACGCAUGUCUUCAUGAAUGACGUGCUCAUCGGGUUCAACGGCGUGAAGUUGUGAAAGGCCUUCCUUUAAUCGUUGAAGCAUUGACAGGUCAUCCGCAUCAGUAACCUCUACGAGUUCCAGGUCUUCUGGUUCCGGCUUAGGGCUAGAGUCGGAUUCAUUGUCGCUGUCUACUUCCAUGUUCUUGGAUGAAGCACGACGGUUCUUGAAACGUUUCUUGGAAAGACGUGUUUCUUGGAAGAAUUCUCCAUCAUAUGUGUCUGGGUUAAUGUGAGGUUCAUAAUCCUGUUCAUUUGGGAGAGGUGGUCUGACAUGUGGCGGCACUUCAUAAACAACAUACCAACCUUCCAUAUUCUUAUCCGUUUGGCAUGCCCACGGUAUAUAGAAAACUUGGGUCGCCUGUUGAGCCGUAAUAUAGACAUCGGGAAUAUCUAAAUGGGUGUUUGGAUUGAUUUCGACUAGUCCUAUAUGUUCAUGACUCCUUCUAGUCUUUUUCGGCCGGAACCAAUAACAUUUGAAGCCUACGACGUUCGGUGGGUUCUCACCAUAGAAUUGAAGUUCAUAAAUUGCUUCAACUCUUCCAUAGUACUCGAUAACACCUUCGCCGAUAGCAGAGACACCACAAUUUGUAGAUUUCCAGUCGGGCAUAGAUAGCUCUUUGCCAAAGGUACGAAAGAGAUACCCGUUGAUGUUGUAUUUCUCAAAUGAACGGACCUUAUAGUGAAAACCAUUAGCGACUUGUCUCAAUUCGGCGUCCAUAGACUCUGAAUUAGCCUACAAGUUUAAUACGAAAAGGUUGUUGCAUUAGCCGCAAGUUAGACCAAGAAUGAAAUGGUCCAUUAUUGAUAAUUACCGUUUGUUUGAACCAAGAGAUGAAACCGGGAUAGCCGCCUCCUGUCUUAGUCAGAAGCUCAUAUUCUUCCACGGAAUCAUUUUCGAUCACCGCUCCAUCCGAGAAUUUGACGACGUAACGGCUGUUUGAAAUAUCCGGGAAUAAGAACCGUUCAAAUGAAUUAGAAGUUACGGGAAAAUGUGUCGAGAACUCACUCGAUGUACGGCCGCACUCCUGUUAGGUUGUUGAAGAUAUACAACGACAUGUUCCGCCAUUCUUUGAUAUCCAACGUUAUUGGUUUCGAAGCACCGGCUAGUGCGAGCUUCCCUUUGAAUAGGCUGACGUUGGACCCACCUUUUUUAGGGUCUCCAUCAUUGUGCCGAGGCUUCGGAUUAUGCAAAUGAUGAUUUUUGGCUUCGUAGUGUGCUGUCACAAAGUUUGCCACCUCCUCAGUAAUGAAUGCCUCAGCCAUCGAUGCUUCAAUUCUACGCUUAUUUUUACAUUUAGCUCGAAGGGUCUUCUGCAUCCUCUCAGUUGCAUAGCACCAACGAUCUUGCAAGGGCCCACCCAAUCUUGCCUCGGUCGGUAGAUGUAAAAUCAAAUGCUGCAUUGGAUUAAAGAAGCCCGGUGGAAAGAUCUUCUCUAACUUGCACAACAACUCCGGUGCAAACUCCUCCAUGUCUUCUACCACGCCAGGCGACAAUUCUUUCGCACAAAGAACACGGAAGAAAUAGCUCAGCUCCGCCAGUACUAGCCAUUCAUCCUCAGGAAUAAAGCUAUGUAACAUCACCGGCAUUACCCGCUCUAGCCAUAUGUGCCAAUCAUGACUCUUGAGACCAAAGAUUUUUAAUUUUUCAAGACUCGCUCCCCUCUUUAGAUUCGCUGCAUACCCAUCGGGGAACAUCAAGUGAAUUUUGACCCACAAGAUAAUUUCCCUCAUAGCUGGCCUUCCAAGAUUGAACCAGGCCUUUGGCUUCGACCACUUCUGCUUUCCUUUGCCUUCUCGCAUGUUUUGUAACGGUCUAUGACAUAGUGUCUCUUGAUCGACUCUAGCCUUAAUAUUAUCCUUUGUCUUCCCAUCUAUGUCAAACAAUGUACCAAAAAUAGCCUCUCCCAUAUUCUUUUCAGUGUGCAUCAUGUCGAUAUUGUGUGGAAGAAGGAGGUCUUUGAAGUAAGGCAGAUCCCAGAAGCAUGGCUUCUGAGUACAGGCGUGUUUUGAAUUAUACCCCUUGAAAUACCCUGGACGCUCUGGAUCAGGCUCGAGGGCGUUUAACUAAUCCAGGAUCUGUUGGCCUGUGAACGCAGGUGGUGCCAAGUUUUUGACAACUUUACCUUUGGUAAAGUUCUUCUUGUCUUUUCUGAACUGAUGGUCAGGAUCCAGGAACUGUCUAUGCAAGUCAAAGCAAGAAUACUUCCGACCCUCCUGCAACCAAUGAAACUGAAGAGCUACCUUGCAUUGGGGGCACGGGAACCUUCCAUGCACACACCAUCCAGAGAAUAGCGCAUACGCUGGCAAGUCAUGCAUAGAGUACAUGUACCACACAUGCAUUUUGAAGUUUUCUUUUCUAGCGGCAUCGUAUGUCUUGACCCCAUUUUCCCAAGCUUCUUCCAAUUCAUCCUUAAGUGGUUGCAGGUACACAUUCAUAUUCUUCCCUGGAUAAUUGGGCCCUUGAAUUAUCAACGUCAGAAAUAUGUUCUUUCUUUGCAUAAUCUGCCCGGUGGGGAGAUUGAGUGGAAUGACAAAUACAGGCCAACAACUGUAUUGGGUUGCCGUCAUGCCGAAGGGAUUAAAACCAUCCGUGGCAUUGCAGACUCGAGGAUUCCUUGGAUCUGCCGCUCUAUCCUGAUGCAAUCCAUCGAAAUGUUUCCACGCUUCCCCAUCCGAUGUGUGUACCAUCAUCUUAUUCCCAUCCGCAUCUAGUUCGGUUGUUUUGCCCAAUUUGUGCCAUGUCAUCUGUCUGGCUGUCUCUUUGACCAUGAAAAGACGUUGAAGUCUUGGUACGAUUGGCAUAUACUGAAGAACACUAACUCCGAUUUUGGUCUGCCUCUUCUCACCCAUACCGUUGUCUAUCACAAGAUACUUGCAAGACUCACAAUUGGGACAAUAGUCCAAGUGUUCAUACUCCUUCCUAAAUAAGACACAUCCUUUCUCACAUGCAUCUAUCUUCUCAUAGGGCAUCUUAAGUACACGAAGUAUUUUGUCCGACUGGUACAGGUUUGCAGGAAUGACAUGGCCUUUGGGUAGGAAACGUCCAAAUAGUGUCAUCAUCGCGUCAUAGCAUUCUCUUCCCAAGUUGAACUGAGCCUUCAGAGCCAUUACUUGUGCAAUUGCAUCCAGCUGACAGAGCUCAGUGUGCUCAUGGAGAGGACGUUUUGAAGACUCCAACAUUUCACAAAAGGCCUUUGCAGAUUCCUCCAUCUCAUCUUCCGAAUCCCGAGCAUCAUCAAAGUCUUGCACCAUGUCUUCCAUCCCGGUACCAUGCUCAUCCGUGCGACGACGGACCACCUCAGCUCUUGUGCGUUGUAUAGACUCACCAUGAAAUGUCCACACCGUAUAAUUAGGCUUAAAACCCCUCCUCUACAGGUUUUUAGUCAUUACAACCUCUGUCGUCUUUUUAUAGUUGUCGCAUCCAGGACAGGGGCAAUAGUUUCUUUCCUGGCCAUUUGCGAAUGCGGCUUUCACAAAUUGCUUUGUUUUUAAAAACCAUUCUUUCGUCAUCUCUUUCUGCCUAGGGUGACCGGUAUACAUCCACGCACGAUCACUCAUCUUGCGUAGCUACUCCAGCACCGCUGCUAUUGUUCUAUGUAUAAGGUUUUCCCUACUAGUGAAUCUUCAUCGUUUAACAGGGUGCUUGGGUCAGCCUUUACUUUGAAGGGAGGAACUUCAUGAAACUUUUCAUAAUCUUCACACAUGUCUGUCUUGCCCUCCAAUCCCACGAUGUCUCUUUUUCCUGAAAGAACUAUGUGGCGCUUUGGCUGAUCGUAUGAUGUAUUCGCUGCCUUAUAUUUUCUUUUUCUCGGUUUGGUAGACAUGUCCUUCACAUAGAAAACCUCAUAGAAAACCUACGCCACAUCAUUGGCUAGGACGAAUGGUUCGUCUGUGAACCCAAGAUUGUUCAGAUCCACUGUUGUCAAUCCAUAUUGUGGGUCUAUCUGUACCCCACCUCCUGACAUAUUGACCCAUUUGCACUGAAACAAAGGGACCUUGAAAUCAUGUCCAUAGUCAAGUUCCCAUAUGUUCACUAUGUAACCAUAGUGUUGGGACUUGGCGACUCACUGGCGACUGAGAGUGACCUAGCGGGCGGCUCAUACAUUACCCCGUAGGCGACUCAGACAAAUGACGAAGGCCCAAGGCCCGGCGUACACUCUGACAUAAGGCAACUCAUAGAGAGGCUAGGAGGGCCGACUCACACAGAAGGCCCAAGAAGACAAAAGACUCCCACAAGAAGGAAACAAGACCCGGAUUAGGAUUCAAGAGAGACUAGUCCUAUUCCUAGUCCUAGUAGGACUCUACAUGUAAACUUACCCCUUCCACCUAUAUAAGGAGGGGUAAGGCGUCCCAAGAGGGACCAGAUUCACAACUUAGAUCUAGACAAGACAAAUCAUGAGAUAGACAGAUUAGACACCCAUGAGAUUAGAGGUGCCUAGUCUGCACCCUUGUAAUUGAGAUCAUCAUCUUCAUCAAUUAAACACAUCCUCUCAAGCCGCCACAUGGUUGCGAUGGCCUCACACCUAAGUUCUCUCACAAGGACAUCUGCCGUGACAAAACCACGACACAUAGUAUGUGUCCUUUUUCCCAUUCUCGUCUGUUGCAUCAAAGCAAACACCGCUGUUUUGGUUGGUGCUCUUUUGAUAUUGGGCGAUCGUGUAAAAUGUAUUCCCAUUUAUCUCAUACUCUUGGUAAGUCAAUACAGUCGAAGAUGGUGCCCUGGACAAAGAGUACAACUCAUCAGAAAAAAUGUUGUCACCUAUGAGACGUUUUUGCAACCAACUGCCAAACGUCCUGAUGUGUUCGUAUGUAAUCUAGUCGUCACACUGCUUCGGGUGUUUGGAGCGCAGAAUAUUCUUGUGUUCAUCGACAUACGGGGUCACCAAGGUAGAAUUCUGUAGAACCGUGUAGUGUGCUUGAGACCAAGAAUGCCCGUCCGUACAUAUUAUUGAGCCUCGCUCCCUAGUGUGCCUUUUCUAGUCAGUCUUUCCUCAUACCGCGAUUCAGGGAGACUAGGAAUGAAGUCAACACAAAACCAAUGACACCCUCUGUUUGAUGGCACAUGGAGAUGCUUACUUAUGGCCUAGCGCGGUUAUGAACAUAUUUCUUUAAGACUCCCAUGAACCUCUCAAAGGGGGACAUAUUGUGUAGAAAUACAAGGCCCAGAAAUAAAAUCUCGUCGACUAUAUGAACUAGGACGUGUGUCAUGAUAUUGAAGAAGGAUGGUCGGAACACCGGCUCGAAACUAACAAGACAUUGCACCAAAUCACUCCUUAACCUUGGCAGGAUUUCUGGAUCGAUCACCUUCUGAGAGAUUGCAUUGAGGAAUGCACAUAGCUUCACAAUGGCUAAUCGAACGUUUUUCGUUAGAAGCUCCCUCAAUGCAACCGAAAGCAGUUGCAUGAUAAUCACGUGGCAGUCAUGAGACUUUAGGUUCUAGAACUUUUUCUCUGCCUUAUUUAUUAUUCCUUUUAUAUUCAAUGAGAAGCCAGAGAGGAACUUCAUACUGAGCAGGCAUUCAAAGAAGAUUUCCUUCUCUUCUUUGGCAAGAGCAUAGCUGGCAGGACCUUCAUACUGCUUCGGGUGCAUGUCGUCUUUUUCAUGCAUACUUCUUCGUCACGUGCAUCACGUUGAUUGCAGAGGGGACCUCUAGGUCUUUCCAAUAGGAUAAGUCCAAAAAUAUAGAUUUCUUCUUCCACAUGGGUGCGCGUCCCGCAUCGUCAUUUGAAACAGAUAGUCCGCUAGGACCCUUUCCAAAGAUUACUUGUAAAUCAUUGACCAUAUCAAGUAUGUGAUCACCAGUACGGAUGGCCUGUUUCUUCCGGUGAUCCGCCUCACCUUUGAAAUGCUUUUCUUUCUUCCGACAUUGAUGGUUGGUCGGAAGAAAUCGACGAUGCCCCAGGUACACAUUCUUCCUGCAUUUGCCCAAAUAUAUAUUGUCGCUGUCAUCUUAACAGUGUGUGCAUGCGUUGUAUCCCUUGUUUCUCUCACCUGAAAGGUUACUGAGAGCAGGUCAAUCAUUGAUGGUUACAAACAACAACGCAUGUAGGUCAAAUUCCUCCCGUUCGUUCUCAUCCCACACACGUACACCAUUUCCAUUCCAUAGCUGUAAAAGUUCAUCAACUAAUGGCCUUAGAUACACAUCAAUGUCAUUGUCGGGUUGCCUAGGGCCUUGGAUAAGCACUGACAUCAUGAUGAACUUCCGCUUCAUGUACAACCAAGGAGGAAGGUUAUACAUACAUAGAGUCACAGGCCACGUGUUAUGCUCGCUGCUCUGCUCCCCAAAAGGAUUAACGCCAUCUGCACUUAAACCAAACCAUACGUUCCUUGGGUCACGUGUAAAGUCGCUCCACUUUUUCUCGAUCUUUCUACACUGCGACCCGUCAGCGGGUGCUCUCAGCUUCCCAUAUUUCUUACGGUCUUUUCUGUGUCAUUGCAUCAACUCGGCAUGCUUUUUAUUUCUAAACAGACGUUUCAACCGUGGUAUUAUAGGAGCAUACCACAUCACCUUGACAGGAACAAUCUUCGCUGUGCGUUGGCCCUCAACAUCACGAGGGUCAUCUCUUCUGAUCUUAUACCGCAAUGAGCCGCAUACCGGGCAUGCGUUCAAAUCCUCGUAGGCACCGCGGUAGAGGAUGCAGUCAUUAGGGCAUGCAUGUAUCUUCUGCACCUCGAAUCCUAGAGGGCAUAGAACCUUCUUUGCUUCGUACACACUGUCGGGCAAUUCGUUAUCCUUUGGUAGCUUUUUCUUCAUUAUUUUCAGUAGAGAACUAAAUCCCUUGUCACAUACACCAUUGUCUGCUUUCCAUUGCAGCAAUUCCAUGCUAGUUUAAUUAAUUGUACCAACAAAACAUAUAUUUUAUUUUGAGAGACAUUGUAUAAAUGUAGACGUUCACAUACACGCAUGUACACCAUCCAUAUGAAUGCAUGCACACACACUCCACGCCUUUUAACAUUUUCAACAGAGCGAGCCAUCAGAUCUUAUGAUAAAAUGAAAAAUAUUUUGUCCGCACCACUCAAGUCGCAUCUCAGACAAUUUGUAAUCAAGAAAUUCGUGGCUUAUAAUGAAACAAAAAACAAGCAAAGCCGGAAAAAGGUUGUGUAGCAACCAUAUAAUGAAUUGAACGGCUGAAAUUUCCAGCACGCACAAUGUAUCCGACGGCCAUGCUUCUUCACUGAUCCGGUGAAGAUAAGGAACCAGGGAACGUCAGCCACCCCUACCACAUCUGCAUGAAAGAAACGGGGCUAUAUAUACCGUGGUGAACAGGCAAUGGGGGCCUCAAGUGUAGCCGGCAUCAUCCUCUCUACAGUUAAUACAGUACCAUGGCCCCCGCCGUGAUGGCUUCGUCGGCUACCACCGUCGCACCCUUCCAGGGGCUCAAGUCCACAGCCGGUCUCCCCGUCAGCCGCCGCUCCAGCGCCAGCCUCGGCAGCGUCAGCAAUGGCGGAAGGAUCAGGUGCAUGCAGGUAUGUCGGGGCACAAAACUGAUAUGAGUUUCUUCCACAUUACAAUUACUGCACUUAGCAGUUACUAGCACUAAGUGUUAAGCGUUCCAUAAUUUCCAAUCAUUCAGGUGUGGCCGAUUGAGGGUAUCAAGAAGUUCGAGACCCUGUCUUACUUGCCACCCCUCACCACGGAGGCCCUCCUGAAGCAGGUUGACUACCUGAUCCGCUCCAAGUGGGUGCCCUGCCUCGAGUUCAGCAAGGUUGGCUUCGUCUUCCGUGAGCACAACAGCUCCCCCGGGUACUACGACGGCCGAUACUGGACAAUGUGGAAGCUGCCUAUGUUUGGGUGCACCGACGCUACACAGGUGCUUAACGAGGUGGAGGAGGUCAAGAAGGAAUACCCUGACGCUUACGUCCGUAUCAUCGGCUUUGACAACCUGCGGCAGGUGCAGUGCGUCAGCUUCAUCGCCUUCAGGCCACCGGGUUGCGAGGAGUCCGGCAAGGCAUAAACUACGAGGUGAAACAAUGGCCUAUGUCGUAUGAAGGUCUUCUGUGAACUUCACUUUUGUCCACGACUCUGCUUUCCGACUAGAGCAUAAUUUGCAUCUCUAUGAUCUGUGUUUGUACGAGCAUAGGUUGUGGAGCAUAUAUGCAUAUGUAAAUUCUAGCACGGCCUACACAUAUACAACACCUGUGCCAUAUUUAUAAUAUACAACAAGCGGACCAUUGUCUUGCUGUUAAUUAUCGGAAAAGUUUAUUUUAUUUAGCACUGCAAUGGAUGUCUCGCAGCUAGUGGGUGGAAGAUUCCUGUAUUUGACAUUAAGACCCACUGAUUGACAAUUGCAAUUUUCAGUUUCUUUACUUAUAUCAAUAACAAAAUAGCUGUGGUAUCUUUUCCAUGUCACUACCAUCAUUUUCAUCGGUUUUUGCUAGUAGAAUAGGAUGACACAUAUUCUUAGUAGAGACACUUACUAAAGAACUUGUGAUGGUCUGGAUAAUAAGCAUCUAACUGAACUAGAUAUAACAACAACAUUCGAACCAUAUUAUGCAACUAUUGGAAUAAAUCUCCAACAUGCAUUGCAUGAGCUCCUUGAGAAGGAUUGUAAUCAUGCUAGUGAAAAUCAAGAAAAAAAACUCGGAUUUCUGUAAGUACUAUGGAGCAACAGCUCCACCGUCCUUUUUCCAUGAAAACAAAAGCAGGCAAGAAAUAUUUACAAAGGGAACAAAGGAAAAGAAAAAACACUUACCUACUUACCUAUUUAUCUAAUGGAGGUUAGAGCAACCUCAACCGGACGACCCAAACGGAUGCUCAUUUUGUCUGUGUUUUAUACAUUUGGAUCGGCUUGUUCGCCCUGUUUUUCUUUUGGGUGACCCAUGCGCCCAAUGCGCGGACCCUUCUUUCGUCCGCACGACAGGUUUGCGGCCAUUUUUUGAUCUCUUUGUUACAUAUGUUUAAAAUUUAAUCCAAGAUUAACGAAGUUGAAUAAAAAUACAACCAUUUCAUAGUUCACAAACCACAUAAAUAUCUCAUAGUUUACAAGCCAAAUUAACAUUAAAUUGUCUCGAAUACAUUUGAAAGAAAAGGUUGCCAAUACAUCUAUUGGUUUCCAAUAUGAAUGCACAUAUGCUCAACCAAAUCAUUUCGCAGGUACAUGUGACUUUCAAUCACGUAUUUGAUGAUGAAACUCGGCGAACUAUGCAAACGUUAUUGCUCCUCCAUGCACAGGCACAACAUUGUCAUCCUGAUUGGAAUUGCCUACCAGGUAAACCAUUCAAAAGGAUGGAAGGUGUUGCAUAGGAUAAGAUCUUCUUGAUCCAAGUGAUGGCUCCAAUUUGUACACAAUUUUAGAGCUCAUUUGUCGCCUAUUAGCUCCAUAUAGCAUGUUCUAUUCAGCAAAUUACAUGUCCAUAUGCAUGAUAUCCAUUAUUUGUCCUUUCCAUCACAAGGAUUGCGUAAUCAUAAUUCUUUGUUAGUGCUUUUUCGUUUUCUUUGUUUUUGAAUGUUUUGUAGGUGAUGUGGAACUCCCAUCCACUUAACACAAUGAAAAGGAUCCAAAGGUAAGGACUUCCUGGCACCAGAUUUAGGCAUUCGGUUUUUUAGUUGCUCAAAAUCAAUAUCUGAUAUUGUACGUGCAUCAACAUUGUUCUCAUGAUUCCAACGAGCAGAAGAACAUUGAAAACAGAGUUUGGAUGUAAAAGUUACGAUUUUACCAAAGAGUCCAAAGCGUUUAACGACCUUUGGCAUGACCAAAAAUGCUCGUAUCAGGCCCUGACAAGCUCGAAAGUUGCCCUUUCAACAGGAAUUUUUCGAGGAUUUCUUGUUCAGUGCCAUAAAAAAGUGGUACUAUCAUUAUUAACUUUGCAUCUGUUGGCGUCAAUGUUAUGGACAUCAAUAUCACUACUAUCUAGAUUCAACAAGAAUAAACCAUUCACAGUAGCCUCAUGACCAUAAAAGAUGUUAGUCAUAUAAAUAGAUAAACCAUUAUUCUCUAAUUUAACCGAAUAACUGUCUCACAAUAAACAAAAUCUAGAUAUAACGUUCAUGCUCAACGUGGGCACCAAAUAACAAUUAUUUAGGUUUACAACUAAUCCCUGAUGGUAAUCGAAGGGCGAGUGUGUCGACGGCGAUCACAUCAACCUUGGAACCAUUUCCGACGUGCAUCGUCAUUUCGUCCUUUGCCAGCCUUCGUUUAUUCCAUAGUUCCUAUUUCAAGUUACAAAUAUGAGCAACCGAACCGCUAUCAAAUACUAAGGCAUUACUACGAGAGCUAGUAUGAUACACAUCAAUAACAUGUACAUCAAGUAUACCUUUGCUGACAUUGCCACGCUUCUUAUUGGACAGGUACUUAGGGAAAUUCCGCUUCUAGUUACCAGUUCCAUUGCAAUAGAAGCACUCAGUCUCAGGCUUGGGCCCAGCUUUGGGUUUCUUGAGGGGGGGGACUGUCUUCCCGUUUUUCUUUAAGUUUCCUUUCUUGCCCUUGCCUUUCUUAAAACUAGUGGUUUUAUUCACCAUCAACACUUGAUGCUCCUUCUUGAGUUCUACUUCUGCGAUUUUCAGCAUCGCGAAUAGCAUAGAGAUUAGCUUCUUCAUCCCUUGCAUAUUAUAGUUCAUCGUGAAGCCUUUGUAGCUAGGUGGCAGUGACUAGAGAACUAUGUCGGUGAUCGUCUCAGGUGGAAGCUCAACUUCCAACUGAUUCAGGCGGUUGUACCACCCACACAUUCUGAGUAUGUGCUCACUGACAGAACUAUUAUCUUCGAUCUUGCAGGUGAAGAACUUAUUAGAGGUCUCAUACCUCUUGAUCCGGCCAUUUGCUUGAAAUACUAACUUCAACUCCUGGAUCAUUUGAUAUGCUCUAUGGCGUUCAGAAUGGUUUUGAUGUCCCGAUUCUAAGUCGUACAACAUGGCGCACUGAACUAUCGAACAACCAUCACCACGCGCCUGCGAGACGUUCACAAAAUCUGCAGAGGGCACUAGAGGGGUGGCGCCUGAGGCGGUGCAUCAAGGACAUAAGCCUUUUGCGAAACCGUGAGGAUAAUCCUGAGAUUAAGGACCUAGUCUGCAUAGUUACUUCCCUCAUCUUUCAGCUUAUCUUUCUCUAGGUACACAUUAAAAUUCAGGGGAGCUACUGCGUGAGCCACUGAUCUACAACGUAAUUUGCAAAGACAUCUAUAGACUAUGUGUCAUGACAAUGAGUUCAAUCAAUCAUAUUAUUAGAUAACUCCCACUCAAAUCAACAUCCCUUAGUUGUCUAAGUGUGACAUGAUCCAAAUACACCAACCCAAGUCCGAUCAUCAUGUGAGAUGACGUGAUUUCAAUGGUGAACAUAUCCAUUUGAUGAUAUGUACUAUAUGACUCAUGUCCGACCUUUAGGUCUCCUCUAUUCCCAGGCCAUGUUUGUACAUGCUAGGCUCGUCAAGUUUAACCCAAGUGUUUUCCAUGUGCAAAACUGGCUUACAACCGUUGUAUGUAAACGAAGAGUGUAUCACACCUGAUCAUCACGAGGUGCUUCGAAACAACAAACUUUCGCAACAGUGAGGGAUCAACUUAUAAUGCUAUCAUUGUCCUAAGGAGAAUAAGAUGCAUAAAAGAUAUACAUCACAUGCAAAUCAUAUAAGUGACAUGAUAUGGCCAUCAUCAUCUUGUGAUUUUGAUCUCCAUAUCCAAAGCACCGACAUGACACCAUGAUCUCCAUCAUCGUGUCGUCAUGUGGUUGUCGCGCCAACUAUUGCUAACUCAUAGUGAUAAAGUAAAGCAAAUGGCACAAAUAAAUGAAAGACAACCCUAUGGCUCCUACCGGUUGUCGUACUCAUGCAUGCAUGGACAUGGAAGUCGUGAUAACUAUACAAAACAUGAUCAUCUCAUACAUCACAUAUAUCAAAUAACGUUUUUGGCCAUAUCACAUCAUAACAUUCCCUGCACAAACAAGUUAGACAUCCUCUACUUUGUUAUUGUAAGUUUUAUGUGGCUGCUAUGGGAAACUAGCAAAAACCAUUCUUACAUGCUCAAAGCCACAACGGUGAUAUUCAAGUUGCUAUCUAACCCUUUACAAGGACCGCCUCUAUCGACUCCGAUUCAACUAAUUAAAGUGAGAGAGACAGACACCCGCCAUCAACCUUUAUCGAAGCAAGUUACAUAUUAGUUGGUCAAACCGGUCUCUUGUGCGUGGACAAGUAAGGUUGGUCUGAGCCGCUCCAUCCCAGAGUUUCACGGAAUCAAAAUAAUACUAAGGAGCUAAGCAAGAUGAACAUCAACACCCACAAACACUUCGUGUUCUACUUGUGCAUAUCAUCUAUGCAUAAACCUAGCUCAUGAUGCCACUGUUGGGGAACGUUGCUUGGGAAACAAUAAUUUUCCUACGAACACCCAAGAUCCAUCUAUGGAGAUGUAUAGCUACGAGACGGGGAGUGACCUUGUAGAUCGCUAAGCGGAAGAGUUAAGAAAAGUGGUGAUGGUGGUGGUGGUGCAAUCUCAACGGGGCUUUACCAAGCGCUGCUACAGACGCGACGGGGGAUAAAAUUGAUCUCAAGAGAGAGGGAGAGCGCCGACAAAGGCUUGAUGUGUGGUUGCCCUCCCCAUCCUCUCAUAUAUAUAUAGGGAAGGGAGGAUGGGGCCGACACUAGGGUUUCCCCUAGGGGUGGGGGCCGCGGCCUAGGAGCUGGCUUGCCACCCAAGCAAGGGUGGCGCCACCCCUCGGGCAUGCACUUCCACCAGCCCAGUCGCAUGGGCCUAGGUGGGGAGGGGCGCCCAGCCCACCAGGGGCUGGUGCGCGUCCUUCUCAGCCCAUGUGGCCCCUCCGGGGCAGGUGGCACCCUUUCGAUACUCCCGGUACUCUACAUAAUACUUACUAAAGAACUUGUGAUGGUAUGGAUAAUAAGCAUCUAACUGAACUAGAUAUAGCAACAACAUUCGAAACAUAUUAUGGAACUAUUGGAAGAAAUCUCCAACAUGCAUUGCAUGAGCUCCUUGAGAAGGAUUGUAAUCAUGAUAGUGAAAGUGAAGAAAGAAACACUGAUUUUUGUAAGUACUAUGGAGCAACAGCUCCACCGUCCUUUAUUCCACUAAAAAAAAGCAAGCAAGAAAUAUUUAAGAAGGGAACCAAGGAAAAAGGAAACAAACACUUACCUACUUACCUCUUUAUCUAAUGGAGGUUAGAGCAACUCCAACCAGGCGAUCCAAUUGAACAUGUGUUUUGUCCGCGUUUUGUCCAUUUGAGACAGCAUGUCCGCCCUGUUUUUCUUUUAGGCCGGCCUUGUGCCCAAUGCGCCGACCCAUCUUUCGUCUGCGCGACAUGCUUGCGGGCAUUUGUUGAUCACUUUGUCACAUAUGUAUAAAAUUUGAUCCUAGACUAACAAAGUUCAAUAAAAAUACAAAAAAAUCGUAGUUCAGAAACCACAUAAAUAUCUCAUAGUUUACAAGUCAAAUAAACAUUAUAUUGUAUCAAAUACAUUUGAAAGAAGCAGUUGUCGAUACAUAUUUUAGUUGCCAACACGAAUCCACAUAUGAUCAACCAAAUCCUUUUGUAGUUGCAUGUGAGUUUCCCAAUCACGUAUCUGAUGGUGAACUGUGCAAAUGUUAUCCCUCCUCCAUGCACAGGCACAACAUUGUCGCCAUGAAACUCAAAUCCUUGAUCAUAGACACGUUCUGGGCGCUCAUCUUCUACGAUCAUGUUGUGCACGAUCACACAAACAAUAAUCACCUUCCAUCACUUCUGGGUGCCCGAAGUUCUUGCAGGAUACCGAACAAUGCCCCAUCGAGAUUGAAAACACCAUAGGGACGCUCAACAUCCUUCCUAGCACUCUAUUGAUCUUGGGCAUAUCAUGGAAUAAGUCGGCCAGUGACAAGGUAGCAUACCUAGGUAGAGACGACAUAGAUGAGGUGGCUGGGAGGGAUACAGACGGAUGGUUGGCGGCGUCGAUGGAAGGUGGGAUGGACGGGUGAGUUUGAGGCGAAGAGAGAAAGAUGAGAUUGGCCUAUUUGGGCCAGUGGAAAGAAAAGGGCGGGUGUCACGGGCGUCAAUCCCGUGUUCGUGCCGAUGCAAAUGCGGUCAAAUUUGGGCAUGGAAUGGGUCACAGGUGGACAUAAACAAGACGUGUGUCCGUUUGGUUCGCCGCAUUGGGUCGAGUGUUGUGUUAGCGAUGACCCAAACGGACAGGCAUGGACGAAAUGGGUCGGCCGGUUGGAUUUGCUCUUACUAAUCCAAUCUAGGAGCUUUGGUUUUAUACAAGCCUUAACACCAUGUUCAAGAAGAGAUGGCAUGUCCAAGUUUACAACACCAAGUGGGAUUGGUUGACCGCUCCCCUAUGAAGAUAUUGACAUUUCUAAUAAUACAAAUAUUAGUUCCAAGAACACAACUUCAAAUAAGAAAGGGUGUCCAAAUCAUUUACAAGCAGCAUCCAUACAUCGUGUACUAUUUUGUCAAGGGAUCCAAUUAAUCUGCAAAUAAGCCCAAAUCCUUUGACUCAAAUUAUAGGGAGAAAAAGAGGUGGUCUAUUUUCUCAUGUGACAAUAGUGGUUUUCAUCCUGAGGAGAAUGCGAGUGAUCUUCUAAGAGAAAUUUUUCAAGCCUUCAAUCGAUAAAAAAAUAGGAUCUAAGCAAAGAUCUUGAUCUUAGUGGUCCACUGUCAUAUCCAUUUGCAAGGUUCAUAUCUGGGCAAGUGCAUGCAUCAUGGAGUACAAACUCUCAGAAGAAAAUGAUUCUCUUAAUGAAGAACAAGUAAGACAAGGUUGCGGUACGUUGAAGGUUAUGUAACCUACCAUCCACAGGUUGCAAUUCAUCCAUCGCCUCCGGAGAAAUUGGAGGAGCAAAAGAUGGCCCAAUCAGGGUUUUCGACAAAAUCUUCAAUUGAAAUGUAGUCAUCCAAGGCAAAGAAAGGAGCUUUUCCAAGUGGUGUUGAAGAGAUCGAGGAGAUCCCUCAACCAACUAGGUUCACACAAGAACAAGGAAGAGUCGCUCGUACUAACUUUCAUUGAUCAUAUGGUGUUGUACUAAUCGUUAAAUUCAAACAUAUUCAUCCAUGUUGCGACAGGUAUGACUCCAUGAUAGUAAGAAAUCCAUAUCAAAGUUUCCCAUGGAAGAUGAUCUUUGUUAUUAAAUUUGCCUCAAUGUUCUGUAAGAAAAGCUCGGUCUUGAAUAUGAUGGUUAAUGAUACCCAUACCUACCCAUACCACCAUUCUCCUUUGGUUUACAUACCAGAUGAAAUGACGCUAAUGGUUGCUUUGGGCUAUCAGCAUUGCCAUGCCGCCUCAAUUCCCUCAAGUUCAUUAAUUAUACCAGGGGGUCUAGAGACUACACCCAUAGUAUAUAGCACAAAUGAAAUGGCAGAGCUCAAAAUUUCAAUUUACCUUGUCAGAGAUAGAGAAGAGCUAGCUACCAGUCACCUUUUGAUUCUAUCAACCAAAGGCAUUAAGUCCUGGAUCUUGGGCGUAGUGUUACCCAUAGGUAAACCAGGUAAAUGAAAGGAAUCUUACCCAGUUGACACUCAAACAUACUAACCAACGAAAAUAUUCAUCGUCAAUCACAUUCAUAAGCACCAUAGAGGAUUUACAAAAAUUCACUUUCAAACGAGUGGAUUUAGAUAAAGAUUAAAACAUUUCUUUUAGGUCAAUAAGUUGAGAAUCAAUACCCAGCCUGAACAGCAGACUACACAACUCGAGAGUCUAGAUACUGAGAUGGGAUUGGAAAAGAUACCUCCUCACGAUGAUACAUGUUAUUGUGAAUACGCUGAAGUAAAUCCUCUCCCAAGAAAAAUAGAAGUGGCAACAGUGGGUCACCCUAUUAAAUCCUAGGUUUUCAUUGUAAUUGCUAAAAGUAGGUGGAUGUCGCCUAGGGGGCGUGAAUAGGCGUUUUAAAAUAAUUACAUUUUAGGCAAGAAAAAAUGCCCAAUAAAACUAACGUUUAAUUAGUCAAGCACAAAACCUAAAACAACUAGGCUCACCUAUGUACACCAACAAGUUAUGCUAAGCAAGAUCAACAACUAAAUGAUAGCAAGGUAUUUGACGAGAAACAAUAUGUCUAUCACAAAGUAAAGUGCAUAAGUAAAGUGCUCGGGUAAGAGAUAACCGAGGCACGCAGAGACGACGAUGUAUCCCUAAGUUUACAUCCUUGUGGAUGCUAAUCUCCGUUUGGAGUGGUGUGGAGGCACAAUGCUCCCCAAGAAUCCACUAGGGCCAACAUAAUCUUCUCAUGCCCUCGCACAAUACAAGAUGCCGUGAUUCCACUAAGGAACCCUUGAGGGCGGUCACCGAAACUGAAAGCACAUAUGCUCCCUUGGUGGUUUUGAUAAUUCAUGACAACAUACAUUGUCUCUUGCACUAACACUUUCACCUAGUAUAUUUCAGGUAUAGUCCACAAAGAGCAUUGGCUAAAUGAUUGUGUGGAGAAGUUCCAAGGAAAGGAAUAGGAUUGUCCAAGGUUCAAGCAAGAGGACUCUAUAUUUUAUAUUUGUGAGAAAUCAAUUUUGAGUCCAUAAAAAGCCAAUACUAUUAAAAGGGGUGAGGUAUGUGUGAUGAAUUGGUUGUUCAAGUGCUUAGGGAUAGACACAAAAAAUAUUCAGUGAUUCUCCCACAAAUAUAUCUGUCCAAAGCCUUCACAUCAAAAUUGGUGCCACCAAGAAUUCUAUUUCGUCCCUAUCUAUUUUCCGAGUGACAGAUCCUUUGCACAAACCCUAAUCUCUCGGUACCACCAACUUUCAUAUUGGUGCCACCAAAAGACAGUGACCAACUUUUUGGUAUCUCUAUUUCUAGAAUUGGAAUUUCCGAGAUUGAAAUCGGUACCACCGAGAAUUGGAAACUGCCCUAGGUCAUCGAGUCGGUACCACCAAGAUUUCUAUAUCGGUCUCACCAAAAAUUAAAAAGUUGUCACGUUUAGUGCAACUCGGUACCACCGAGAUUAAUUUCGCUGUCACUGAGUUGGGCAAUAAUUUUGUAAUGGUUGGAUUUUGGGAGAUGCCUAUAUAUACCCUUCCACCUCCAUUCAUUCGCAUAGGAAGCACUCAGAACACACUUACACUUGCCAUAUCCAUUUUUUCAGAGAGAGAGCCACCUACUCAUGUGUUGAGAUCAAGAGAUUCCAAUCCAUCCAUUUUAAACUACAUCUCUAGCCUCCCGAAGUUGCUUUCCACCAAAUCAAUCUCUCCUAGCCAUGUCAAAUCUAUGAGAGAGUGAUUGAGUGUUGAGGAGACUAUCUUUUGAAGCACAAGAGCAAGGACUUCAUCGUUCUACCGCAUCUAUUACCUUUUGGAGGGUGGUGCCUCCUAGAUUGGUUAAGUGUUGCUUGGGAGCCUCCUACUUCAUGUUGUGGAAUUGAACCAAGAAGUUUGUACGGGCAAGGAUAUCGCCUACAACGUGAAGAUCUACCCUCAGUGAGGCUAGUCCUAUGUGGACGUAAGCCACGAUGGAAUAUACAAGGCAGCUUCUUCGUGGACCCCUUGUGGGUGGAGCCCUCAAUGGACUCUUGAAGUCGUUACCCUGUGUGCGUUGAAGUCUCCAUUAACGUGGACGUACAAUAGCACUAGCUAUCUAAACCACGCCAAAAAUCACCGUGUCUUCUUUGCGUUUGAUCUUCCUAAACUCUACUCCUUACUUACAUGUGCAAUGCUUUACUUUCCGCUGCCAUAUAUGUUGACUAGCAUGUGUAGGGUGCACUAGACUUGUUAGAAUUGCUAAAAUCUACCAACCAUUAAAAUUGGGAAAAGGCUAGGAUUUUAAUUUUUCCAAUUAGACUAUUCACCCCCUAGACAUCCCUUCUAGUGAUCCCACAAUUUGUAAUAGAUAUUUGGCCUCCAUAGCCUGGGUUUAAUCACCAUUGGAGGAAGAUGGAUGUGCGUAGUUUGGGGAACCUUAGUUGUAGAGUGUCUAUUCUCGAUGGAGAGUAAUUUAGACAAUGGAAAUAUGAAAUGUUUCAUAUAUUGAAUGAAUUCCAUUUGCGCUAGUAUGUUGAAUAUCCCUAUGUGUCUCCCAUUGAUCCCUUACAUCCUUCUCAUGAUGAUGAUGAAGUUAAUAUGCUUGGUAAUGUUAAAACUAUUAAUCUUAUCAUUAGAGGACUGCCAAGAAAUGUGCUUAAGCAAAUGAAGAACUUUGAAUUUGCUUAUACUUUGGGGAAAUAUUUGGAGAAAAGAUACCCCGACUACUGCCAAUAAUAACACUUAGUUUUUGGCUUAGGUCCAGCCUUGGGUUUCUUCGUCGGAGGGGCAACAGAUUUUCCACUCUUCUUGGAGUUACCCUUCUUUCCUUUGUCGUUAUUCUUGAAACUGGUGGUCUUAUUGACCAUCAACACUUGAUGUUCUUUCUGGAUUUCUGACUCUGCCACUUUCAGCAUCACAAACAGCUCGGCGAGUGAGUUAUUCAUCCCUUGCAUGUUAUAGUUCAACAAGAAGCUCUUAUAGCUAGGUGGAAGUGACUGAAGAACUCUGUCAGUGACAGCCUCUUGCAGGAGUUCAAUCCCCAGCUGAGCUAGAUGGUUAGAGUACCCAGACAUUCUGAGUAUGUGUUCACUGGCAGACCCGUUCUCCUCCAUUUUGCAAUCAUAGAACUUAUCGGAGGUCUCAUACCUCUCGAUCCGGGCAUUCUUCUCAAAGAUAAACUUCAACUCCUGCAACAUCUAAUAUGCUCCAUGACGUUCAAAACGUCUUUGAAGUCCUGGUUCUAAGCCAUACAAAACUGCACAUCGAACUCAUGAGUAGUCAUCCUUACGCGACUACCAAGUGUUCAAAACAUCUUUGUCGCCGUAGCGGCUUGUGCAUCACCUAGCGCAACAUCAAGGACAUAUUGCUUUUGGCCAGAUGUGAGGAUAAGCCUCAGAUUACAAGUCCAGUGAACAAAGUUGCUUCCAUCAUAUUUCAACUUAGCUUUCUCUAGGGACGUAUUAAAAUUCAGCAUUGCUACUGCGUGAGCCAUUGAUCUACAACAUAAAUUUUUGCAAAUAUUACUUAGAUUAUGUUCAAGAAAAUUGAAUUUAGCUAAUCAUAUUACUAAUAAACUCCCACUCAAAUUGACAUCCCUCUAGUCAUUCGAGUGUCGCAUGAUCCAAAUUCACUAACUCAAGUCUGGUCAUCACGUGAGUUGAGUAUAGUUUCAAUGGUGAACAUCUACAUGUUGAUCAUAUCAACUAUGUGAUUCAUGCUCGACCUUUCGGUCUCUUGUGUUUCGAGGCCAUGUCUUUACAUCCUAGGCUCAUCAAGUUUAACCCGAGUGUUCCACGUGUGCAACUGUUUUGCACCCUUUGUAUGUGAAGUUGAGUCUAUCACACCCGAUUAUCACCUGUUGUCUCAAAACGACGAACUGCCGCAACGGCGCACAGUCGGGGAGAACACAACUUUAUCUUGAAAUUUUAGUAAGAGAUCACCUUAUAAUGGUACCGUCGUUUUAAGAAAAAUAAGGUGCAUAAAAGGAUUAACAUCACAUGCAAAUCAUAAGUGACAUGAUAUGGCCAUAAACUUGUGCUUCUUGAUCUCCAUCAGCAAAGCACCGGCAUGAUCUCCAUCGUCACCGGCGCCACACCAUGAUCUCCAUCAUCGUACUGCCAUCGAGGUUGUCGCGCUAACUAUGCUUUUACUAAUAAAGCUACUACUAGCGAUAAAGCAAAGCAUCACCAAGGGCAAAAAUAAUUAAAGACAACCCUAUGGCUCCUGCCGGUUGCCGUAGCAUCGACGUGCAAGUCGAUAUUUAACUACUACAACAUGAUCAUCUCAUACAUCCAAUAUAUCAUAUCAUGUAUUUGGCCAUAUCAUAUCACAUGCAUACCGUGUAAAAACGAGUUAGACGUCCUCUAAUUUGUUGUUGCAAAUUUUACGUGGUUGCUAUGGGUAUCUAUUAUGAUCGCAUCUUACUUACGCAAAGCCACAACGCUGAUAUGCAAAUUGCUAUUUAAUCUUCUCCAAGGAACACCUUGGUCAAAUCCGAUUCAACUAAAGUUGAAGAAACAAACACCCUCCAGUCAACUUUAUGCAACAAGUUGCAUGUUAGUCGAUGAAGCCGGUCUCUCGUAAGCGUACGAGUAAUGUUGGUCCGGUCGCUUCGAUCCAACAAUACCGCUGAAUCAAGAAAAGACUAAGGAGGGCAGCAAAUUGAACAUCAACGCCCACAAACUCUUUUAUGUUCUACUCGAGAUAUCAUCUACGCAUGAACCUAGCUCAUGAUGCCACUUUUGGGGAACGUUUCAUGGGAAACAAAAAAUUUCCUACACAUACGAAAGACCUAUCAUGGUGAUUAUCAUCUACGAGAGGGGAGAUCGGAUCCACAUACCCUUGUAGAUCGCUAAGUGGGAAGCGUUAAGAAACGUGGUUGAUGUAGUCGAACAUCUUCGCUAUCCAAUCACGAUCCAUCCCACGAACUGCGUCCCGAUCUAGUACUGAACGGACGACACCUCCGCGUUCAGCACACGUACAACUUGAUGACAAUCUGCGCCUUCUUGAUCCAACAAGAGAGACAAAGAAGUAGCUGAAUUCUCUGACAACACGAUGGCACGGCAGUGAUGGUGGUGGAGCUACUCCGGUAGGGCUUCACCGUGUCGUACUUAACUAGCUACGGGGUGUCACGAAGUAGUGGAGGGAGAGAGGGCUGCACAAAGACUUGGGGUGCAAAAACCCUCUCAAACCUCCACUAUAUAUAGGAGGAACAAGUGAGAGGGUGGCUUGCCUCCUACUCCAAGUAGGAGGGUUUGGACGAGCCCAAGAGGGAGGAGUCCUCCACCAAUUCGGUUUGGUGGAGGACUCCUUCCCAUCUUGUCCACCUCCUUCCUUUUAUUUUCUUUUUUACUUCUUAUUAUUGCUUUUAGCCAUUAUAGGCUUAUUGGGCUGGCCUCAACAGCCCACUAAAGGCUGGGGCGCCACCCAUGGGCCUAUUAGGUCCUAUCCCGAGUGGGUGGCCCCUCCCGGUAAAACCCCAGAACCAGUUCGUCUCUCUCGGUACUUUAGCGGUAAUGCCCGAAAUCUUUCCGAAAGCCUAUAUAUCAAUUGUUGUUUCCGGACCAUUCCGGAGACCCUCGUGACGUCCGAGAUCUCAUCUGGGACUCCAAACAACAAUCGGUUACCAACAUCAAUAAUUCAACAAUACCAAAACGUCACCGAACCUUAAGUUUGCACACCCUGCGGGUUCGAGAACUGUGUAGACUUGAUCGAGACACUCUCCAGCCAAUAUCCAAUAGCGGGACCUGGAUGCCCAUAUUUGAUCCUACAUAUUCUACGAAGAUCUUAUCGGUCCAACCUCUAUGUCAAUGAUUCAGUUAAUCCCGUGUAAUGUUCCCUUUGUCCUUCGGUAUGUUACUUGCCCGGGAAUCGAUCGUCGGUAUCUCUAUACCUAGUUCAAUCCCAUUAAUGGCAAAUCUCUUUACUCGUUCCGUAAUACAGUAUCCCGUGGCUAACUCUUUAUUCACAUUUCUUGCAAGGCUUAUUGUGAUGUUGUAGUACUAAGUGGGCCCCGAGAUACCUCUGCAUCAGAAGGAGUGAUAAAUCCCAGUCUUGAUGCACGCCAACCCAACAUACACUUUCGGAGAUACCUGUAGAGCACCUUUAUAGUCAUCCAGUUACGUUGCGACAUUUAAUACACACAAGAUAUUCCUCCGUUGUUCGGGAGUUGCAUGAUCUCAUAGUCAUAGGAAUAGAUACUUGACACACAGAAAACAAUAGCAACAAAAUGACACAAUCACAUGCUAUGUUUAUAGUUUGGGUCUUGUCCAUCACAUCAUUCCCCCAAUGAUGUGAUCUCGUUAUCCAUUGACAACACUUGUCUAUGGCUAGGAAACCUUAACCAUCUUUGAUCAAUGAGCUAGUCAACUAGAGGUUUACUAGGGACAAUAUUUCGUCUAUGUAUCUACACAUGUAUCUGUGUUUCCAUUCAAUACAAUUCUAGCACUGGAAACAGGAAAUAUAAUAAUAACUAAUUUAUAAUUGCCUCUAGGUCAUAUUUCCAAGAGAGGAAGCUCCACCAUCCAACAAGAAGAAGCUCUCAUGAGUUCGAGAAAAGAGUGGACAAGGAUUAUCCGCUGAAUCAAAUCUUCGUUGACAUACAAACUGGGAGAAUUACUCACUCUAAAACUUGUUUAGGUAACUUUUGGAGCAUUACUCAUUAUCUCUGGCAUAGAGCCUAUGAAGGUACAAGAAUCCCUUCAAGACCCAUAUUGGGUGAAUGCGAUGCAUGGAGUGUUACACAGAUUCACGAGGAAUGACGUUUUUACACUUGUGGAAAAGCCCAAGGACGAGAAAAGCGUCAUUGGUACAAAAUGGGUAUUUGGCAACAAGCAAGAUGAACAUGGUCAAUUUGUACGCAACAAGGCGUGUCUCAUAGCCCAAGGAUACACGCAAGUUGAUACGUCUCAAACGUAUCUAUAAUUUUUGAUGGUUUCAUGUUGUUAUCUUGUCAACUUUGGAUGUUUUAUAUACCUUUUAGAUCUUUUUUGGGACUAACUUAUUAAUUCAGUGCCAAGUGCGAGUUCCUGUUUUUUCUGUGUUUUUGACUCUUUUCAGAUCUGAUUUUGGAACGGAGUCCAAACGAAAUAAAAUCCCCGAAAUAAAUUUUGAGGGCCAAGGCAGGAGGCCCAUAGGGAGCCCACAAGCCGUGACGCUGCGGCCAGGGGGGCCGCGGCGACCAGGCUUCUGGCCUCCCUGGCGCUCCCCUGCCCGAGCUCUUUCGCCUAUAUAUUCCCUAAAAUCCCAGAAAAAAUCAGGGCAUCCACGAAAACACUUUUCCGCCGCCGCAAGCUUCCGUUUCCGCGAGAUCUCAUCUGGAGACCCUUCCCAGUGCCCUGCCGGAGGGGACUUUGGAGUUGGAGGGCUUCUACAUCAACAUCAUCGCCUCUCCAAUGACUCGUGAGUAGUCCACUUCAGACCUACGGGUCCGUAGUUAGUAGCUAGAUGGCUUCUUCUCUCUCUUGGAUCUACAAUACAAUGUUUUCCAUGAUCUUCAUGGAGAUCUAUCCGAUGUAAUCCUCUUUGGCGGUGUGUUUGUCGAGAUCCGAUAAAUUGUGGAUUUGUGGUCAGAUUAUCUAUGAAUUAUAUUUGAGUCUUUGCUGAUUUCUUAUAUGCAUGAUUUGAUAUCCUUGUAAGUCUCUCCGAGUCUUGGGUUUUGUUUGGCCAACUAGAUCUAUGAUUCUUGCAAUGGGAGAAGUGCUUGGUUUUGGGUUCAUACCGUGAGGUGACCUUUCCCAGUGAUAGAAGGGGCAGCAAGGCACACAGGGGAUAGGUGCCAUCAAGGGUAACAAGAUGGGAUUUUAGUCAUAGAUUUGAGAUUGUUCAUCUACAUCAUGUCAUCUUGCUUAGAUGCAUGCUGGAUAGCGGUCGACGUGUGGAGUAAUAGUAGUAGAUAAAGAAAGUAUCGGUCUACUUGUUUUGGACGUGAUGCCUAUAGAUAUGAUCAUUGCCAUAGAUAACGUCAUGACUUUGCACGGUUCUAUCAAUUGCUUGACAGUAAUUCGUUGACCCACCGUCUACUUGCUUUCAUGAGAGAAGCCACUGGUGAACACUACGGCCCCCGGGUCUAUUCACAACUAUCGCUUCCACUUUUACUUUUACUUUGCUUUGUUUACUUUUUGCUUUCAGUUCUCACUUUGCAAACAAUCUAUAAGGGAUUGACAACCCCUUCAUAGCGUUGGGUGCAAGCUCUUUGUGUUUGUGCAGGUACUUGUGACUUGACGCGAUCCUCCUACUAGAUUGAUACCUUGGUUCUCAAACUGAGGGAAAUACUUACCGUCGCUGUGCUACAUCACCCUUUCCUCUUCAAGGGAACACCAACGCAAGGCUCCAAGGCCGCGGGGGAAUCCUUUGCAUAUUUGCCAAGGAAGUUCCUAUAGGCAUAGCCCGUAGCAGAAGGAUUCCUGGCGCUGUUGCCAGGGAGGGUCUUUUGUUGCCGUAGCAGAAGUAUUUCUGGAGCCGUUGACGGGGAGGAUCGCUUGCCAAGGAGUAUCAAGACAGGAAUAAUCUCCCAUCAACACACCUAUUUCUGGCGCCGUUGCCGGGGAGAGAUCAAGUCAAGAUCUAUCCAAGUAGGUGUCACAAACUCAUCUCUUGCAUUUACCUUUUUUCCCAGUUGCCUCUCGUUUUCCUCUCCCCCACUUCACAUUUGCCGUUUUCAUUCGCCUUUUUCGUUUGCCUUUUUGGUUCACCCUUUUCUCUCGCUUGCUUUCUGUUCGCUUGUGUGCCAUGUGCCUUCAAUAUGUUUGCAUCUUCGCUUGCUGAAAAUCUAGUGAUAUGGAUCCUCAUCCACUUGCUAAUCUCUUUAAGAGAUCCAAUUAUGUUGAUCCAAUUGCUAGUGAGUUGAGUGCACUUAUGUAUCUUUAUGGAGUUUUGCUUGAGAUGCGUGAAUCUGAAAAUUGUGAGGAAGAAAUUUAUGAAGUGAUUGACGAGGGCUCCUUGGAUGAAAAGCAUGAUUGCAAUGGUUUCACUAUAAAUUCUAUUAGUGACAAUCAUGCUAAGAAUAUGGAAAACCCUAAGCUUGCAGAUGCUAGUUUUGCUAUGUCCCCUACUUGUUGCAAUGAUCAUGAGUGGGGCGAUGAUUUUUCUUAUGAUCUUGAAAAUUUGUUUAAGCCUCAUGAUGAAUAUGAUAUUUGCAAUAUCAUUGAAAGUGGGUUUGGAGAAAUCAUGACUUUAGUUGAUGAUAAUCCGACUAUUUUUGAAGAGCGUCAACUUUGCAUGCAUGUGGAUCAUGAAAAGAAUAUCCUAUGUGAUAGUUACAUUGUUUAAUUCGAAUAUGAUCCCACAUGUAAUUACUAUGAGAGAGGAAAAUAUUGUGGUAGAAACUUUCAUGUUACCAAAUUACCUCUCGUUAUGUGGAGAUUGCUAUUGUCUCUUUCUUCUUCCUUGCAUACGGUAACUAUUGGUUGUCUUGACAAUCUGUUUUCCUAUAAAAUGCCUAUGCAUAGGAAGUAUGUUAGACUUAGAUGUGAUUUUCCCAUGCUUUAUGAUGCUCUCGUUGUGCUUCAAUUCUUGUCUUUUGUGUGAGCAUCAUUGAAUUAUCAAUGCCUAGCUAAGGGCGUUAAGCAAUAGCUCUUGUUGGGAGGCAACCCAAUGAAUUUAUCUUUUUCUUUCUGUUUUGUGUUUUCCACACUUUCAUAAUUCUGUUAUGAUUGUGUUUUUUGUGUUUCUUUUGCGUUUGUGCCAAGUAAAACUGUUAUGAUUAGUCUUGGGGAUGAUCGUUUGGUCAUGCUGGAAAAGACAGAAACUUUCUGCUCACGAAAAGAAUUUUCAUUUUGUUUCUGUAAGAGCUUUUGAGUUGAUUCUUUUUGCUUCUGAUUUCUAUGCAAAUUCUUCAGACUGUCGUAAUUGGUCGGAAUUUUUGAAGUACCAGAAGUAUACGAAGUAUACAUAUUACUACAGACUGGUCUGCUGUUAAUAGAUUCUGUUUUUGUUGAGUUGGUCGAUUAUUUUGAUGAAACUAUGGAUAGUAUCGGGGGGGGGGGGGUAUUAGCCAUGGAAGAUUGAAAAUACAGUAACCCAACAUCAACAUAACUAGAAUUUAAUUUUCCUAUAGUACCUAAGGAAGUGGUGGUUUGCUUUCUUAUACUAAUGAUAUCACGAGUUUCUGUUUAAGAUUCGUGUUGUGAAGUUUUCAAGUUUUGUGUGAAGUUCUUAUGGACAAAGAGAUAAAGAGUGGCAAGAGCUCAAGGUUGGCGAUGCCCAAGGCACCCCAAGUGGAUUCAAGGAUGCCAAAAAAGCCUAAGCUUGGGGAUGCCCCGGGAAGGCAUCCCCUCUUUCGUCUUCAAUCCAUCGGUAAUGUUACUUGGGGCUAUAUUUUUAUUCACCACAUGUUAUGUGUUUUGGUUGGAGCGUCUUGUACCGUAGGAGUCUUUUAUUUAUUUUGUUCCACAAUAUUCCUUGCUGCACACUUAGAGAGAGAGACAUGCGCUCACUGUGAUUUUGUCGAGCUUCACUUAUAUCCUUUGGUUAGACAAUUCAGCUCACAUGUGUUUCACUUAUAUCUUUUGAGCUUGUUGAUUUUUCUCUAUGUGUUUCACUUCUAUCUUUUAGAGCACGGAACCGCUUGGCGUGGUAGUUGAUCUAUGCUAUGAAAGUAGUCUCAAAAGGGGUAGUUAUACAAAGGAAUAUGAAAACUUCCACCUUCAUGUGCAUUGAGUAGUUAGAGAAGUUUGAUUCAUCUCAAUCAGUUUUGAGUUGUGGUUGUGGUAAUAUUAAAGUUAUAUUAGUAAGGUGUAGUGGAUCUAGAAAUACUUGUGUUGAAGUUAGUGAUUCCGGUAGCAUGCACGUAUGGUGAACCGCUAUGUGAUGAAGUCUGAGCAUGAUUAGUAUAUUGAUUGUCAUCCUUUGUGUGGUGGUCGGGAUCACGCGAUGGUUUAUACCUACCAACCCUUCCCCUAGGAGUAUGCGUUGAAUGCUUUGUUUCGAUUACUAGUAGAACUUUUGCAACAAGUAUAUGAGUUCUUCAUGACUAAUGUUGCGUCCAUGGUCUAGAUGCACUUUCAGCUUCCGCCAUCACUAUCUUCUUUAGUGCCGUGCAACUUUCGCCUGUGCAUAAAACCCACCAUUAGCCUCCCUCAAAACAACCACCAUACCUACCUACUAUGGUUUUUUCAAAGCCAUUCCGAGAUAUAUUGCCAUGAAACUACCACCAUGACAUGUGCCACCACUUCUACAUUGCCAUUGCAUGAUCAUAAGAUAGCUAGCAUGAUGUUUCCAUUGAUGUCUAUGCCAUGCUAGAUCAUUGUCACGGUACACUACCGAAGUCAUUCCAUAUAGAGUCAUCAUUGCUCUAAGUUUUGAGUUGUAAGUGUGAUGAUCAUCAUUGAUGGAUCAUUGUCCCAUGUGAGGAAAUAAAAGAGGCCAAAGAUGCCCACCAAAAAAAAGAAGGCCAAAGAGCCCACCAAAAAAAAUAGAGAGAAAAAGAGAGAAGGGACAAUGCUACUAUCUUUCCACAAUUGUGAUUAUUAAGUACCAUGAUUUUCAUGAUUGAGAGUCUCUCGUUUUGUCACCACCAUAAAGCUAGUGGGAAAUUUUUAUUAUAUAACUUGGCUUGCAUAUUCAAAUGAUAGGCUUCCUCAAAAUUGCCUUAGGUCUUCGUGAGCAAGAAAGUUGGAUGAAGAUGGGGAGGAACCACCUCCUCCUAAUGGCAACCCACACCCUCAGUUUGGCCCUGAGCUCACUGGUGAGCAAUUGUACCAACAGCAAGUGCAUAACUGGCUAGUUCAAAAUGCAGCUCAACCUUAGGGGGCUCCUCCUGCUCAUGAAGCCCCAUAGCAACAGGAUCAGCACAAUGGAUGGGGAGUGUGGCCAGCCUCACCACCAUAGGCACCACAAUUACCUCCUUAUGUCUACAACUUUCAAGCUUGGCUUGCUGCCCAGGGACUACAAGUGCAAGAUGGCCUGCUUCCUGAAGAUAACAUCUCAGAUAGUGCUUCCCAAGCUUGGAAUGAUGCUAUAUCCAACUCCAACAACUCUGCUAGCACCAACCUAUCUGCUGGAUCUCUGAAUCCCCUGGUGAUACACUCUCAAACACAUCAGCUGCAACACUCUGAGGGUCUUUUGAGAAUCUCCCUGGAAGUUCACAAUAGUGGAAUUCGCUUUGGCUUAUCUGAACAUGGAGAAUCAGUGCUCACCCUGCUACUAACUGAUCCAGCUCCAAGACAGCAGCUAAAUGACUUCAUCUUUAGAGCCAUCAAACCUCUAAUGGCUUAUAGAGGCCCUUGGAAUGCUGAUUAUGGUUUCAAGCAUGAAUGCAUGCAGGUGGAAGUUGCAGUUGCUCUGCGUGAUGAUGGCAUAAUAUUUAGCAACACCUAUCCUACUCUCCCCAUGAGCACUACAUCAUCUACUGUUAUCAUAGAAGCACUAUCCCCUGAGCAGGCACUGGCUCCAACUAUUGAUCCUACGGAUCCAUUGGAAAUAGAAUGCAGCAUGGAUCAGGAACUACAAGUCAGCAAGAUUCCUCUGAAGCAGAAAGGCAAAAUGAAACUGCAAGUAGAUACUUCCAACCUUCGCCGCAGCCUGAGAUCAAACAAGUAUGAUGGUUUCAAGAUCCCAUCCAUGGCAGAGGGCAAGAUCACUAAAUCCAAAGUUAAGCCCAGGAUGAUUCCCAAUAUUGCUCUUCAGGAAGUUGAUCGUGCUCUGACACUUGAGGUUCCCCCUCCUACUGCCAUCAACACCAUGCAAGCCAUUGGGACGCAGCUGUGUGCCAUACCUGAAACAGAGCUUGCAGACUCGGAGCUUCUUCGAGAAGAUCCAGGCCCGACAGAUGGCCAAGUUUGAUAUUGUGCCUGACCCACCUCCUCUUUGAAUCUCUAUGGUACUUUUGCGUAGUUGGAACGUCUUAUGUUGGAAUAUUCGUGGACUUAAUUCGCCCAAAAAACAUCUAGCUCUAUCGAAUGCUAUUCGUGACAGCAGUUGCUCCAUCAUUUGCUUACAAGAAUCGAAAAUGACCUCAUUUGAUGAACAUGCUUUACGUACAUUGUGUCCUAAACGAUUUGACAAAUUUGCAUAUAUUCCCUCCCGAGGGGCUUCUGGUGGGAUAGUCACGAUUUGGAACAGCUCUAUAUUUAUAGGAACUACAUUUGUAGAAGAGGAUUUCGUGUUAGGGGUCCAGUUCUCAUCAACACAAACUUUGCAUACCUGGAAGCUAUUGAACAUAUAUGGCCCCUGCCAAGGGGAUCAAAGGGUUUGUUUCACAUCUUGGCUCUUUGAUCUUGACAUUGUGGCAACUGAGGAUUGGUUGAUCCUAGGGGAUUUCAACUUCAUUAGGGCACCAACGAACUGCAAUCUACCCGGAGGUAACAUUCAAGACAUGUUUACGUUUAAUGAAUUCAUCAGUGAGCAGAUGUUAACGGAGAUCCCAAUCAAAGGCCGACCAUAUACAUGGUCGAACAUGCAGCUAAACCCUUUGCUCGAACAACUCNNNNNNNNNNNNNNNNNNNNNNNNNNNNNNNNNNNNNNNNNNNNNNNNNNNNNNNNNNNNNNNNNNNNNNNNNNNNNNNNNNNNNNNNNNNNNNNNNNNNUAUAAGGCAGCGAAUACAUCAUACGAUCAGCCAAAGACGCCACAUAGUUCUUUCAGGAAAAGAAGACAUCGUGGGAUUGGAGGGCAAGACAGACAUGUGUGAAGAUUAUGAAAAGUUUCAUGAAGUUCCUCCCUUCAAAGUAAAGGCUGACCCAAGCACCCUGUUAAACGAUGAAGAUUCACUAGUAGGGAAAACCUUAUACAUAGAACAAUAGCAGCGGUGCUGGAUAAAAGGCGGCGCUACUGCUACAUAUCAGUAGCAUGCUUCCAGUACAGGCGCUACUGCAAACUACUUAUCAGUAGCGCGGCUUUAGGAAACACGCUACUACUAAUAUUGCCCCACUGUUGCCGACGGAGCUAGAUUUAGUAGUAGCCCGCCCCGAAUACCAACACUACUACUAAAAGAAUAGUAGCAGCGCGUUUUUACAACCGCGCUAAUACUAAGUGGGGCACUUAUCAUUUCGUCGCCCCCACAGGCCCCUCUCUCACUCUCUCCCUCUCUCCCUCUCCACACUCCGCCGUCGCCGCCGCACCGCACUCCCUCCCUCACCACUCUGCACCGCCGCCGCCGCCCCGCACUCCCUCUCUCCCCACUCUGCGUCGCCGCCCCGCCCCUGCCUCACCGACACCCCUGCCUCGUUAUCGCCCCUGCCUCGCCGACGUGGACACCCCUGCCUCGCCGACACCCUUCCUCCUACAUCGUCGACGCCACCUCCUCCACCCGCUGCUGUCGAUCUCACCACCGUAAGUCCCUCUCCCCUCCCCUCUUCUCUAUAGAUACACUAGUGGGGACAGGGCCUAUAGCCCCGGCCCGUAAGGGGCUUUAGUCCCGGUUCACCAACCGGGACUAAAGGGGCGGGACUAAAGGCCUAACCUUUUCGUCCCGGCCCUCUUACACGCCGGGACUAAAGGUGCUCCACGUGGGCGCCUCGUAGCGCCCCACAGGCAGGCCCUUUAGUCCUGGUUCGUUACACGGUCCGGGACUAAAGAUUUUCAGAUUUUGCUGGCUUUUGGGUUUUUUUUGAAUAAAUUAUUUUGGGUUUUAGGGUUUUAGGGUUUAGGUGUUCAGGAGAUUAACGUGAUGCCUCGUUUUGUGUUCGGGAAUUAGUUUUCAUAUAAUUUAAAAUAGAAAUAAUUAUGCAUAUAUAUAUAUAUAAGAUUAACUUAUCUUACAAGCGAUCAUAUAUAUACAAUUAUAUGGAGAUCUGAAUUAUCGAGACUAGAGCCCGUCUAUUCGAUUACAUGGACGAACAUGAGUAAUGGCCCUUAGCUACACUAAAUCGUCAUGUGUCUUCUAUAGCUUCCGUCCUCAGAAAUCCCGCAAGCUCCUCUGCAACAGCAAUCGCGCGUUGCUCUGGUAGGACCUUCGUCCUCAUGGCCGUGUGCUAUAUAAGAAGAGGAGAUGAAUAUGAAUAUCAAUCAUGAUAACAAAGAAUGACAGGUAAAAAUAGAGGUGUGAAUGUUCAUUGCUUACGUCGAAUCUAUGCUCCUUGAACUCAGAGGUAAACGUGCGAAUGGUCUCGCAAACAUAGUAUCCGCAUAGAUGCGUUCCCCGUGGCUGCUGGUCGCACUUUACGAGAAUGGAAUAUAUAUAAUCAAAAUAAUAAUCUAGCAUCAUAAAUGUAUUGAAAAUUAAUAGAAGUAUAUCAUACUACUACUUACCUGAGCCGCUCUAAAGGUCAGCUUCUCAGGAAAGUUACCGGGAGUCACGCACUUGAACCGAUUCCAAACCCUGCCCGACAAGGAUAAUGAUUUACUAAGUUUUUCAUUAAUUGAUAUAUCAGAAAAUCAUCGAAAGAGACCGAUAGAGCGCAAGAAUGAUUAAAAUUACCCUUGGAGCAUGUCCUGUAGGCUUUGGAACUGUUCCAAGGGUCUCGAUAAUGGGUCGAAGGCAUCAACCCUUCCCUUAUCAAUUUGAAUGUCCAACAGAAUCCAAUGGAAGCUGCACACGUAUAUAUAUAUAUGUGUGUGUGUGAGUAACUUAUCAAUUACACUUAUAAGUGAAUGGACACAACAGAGUAAAGACCCUCACCUGAAGUUGUAUGGAAACAGUAUGUGGUCAUAGAAAUUUUGAUCUCUUAGAAACCUUAGAAGGUUUUCCUCCGUCUCCUUGGGAUAAUUAGUUAGCGUCGCUAUAUGUAUUUUAUCUGGAUCAAUAAACCCAAUAUUUAUGAUGCUCUUACUUUUACACUCCAGAAUCUUCAUUCUGCGUAAUAGAGUACAAGUUAUAUAUAGACAAUGAAUUGAAAUAACUAAACAAGUUAUAUGUAGUCAACGAAUUGAAAAACUUACAGACAAUAGCAACUCAUAAGCGAUUUGUCGAGGGCGUCGCCAUUGUACAUCUGGGAGAGUUCAUCAAAGUCGAUAUGGAUUUCUUCGGAGCGGCCGUAGUACUCCUGUGGGACACUCAGCACGAUCAUCGUUCUCCCAUUCUUUGAUUCACUUAAGUACCAUUUAUGCAAGUAACGCAAAUUUGUUGGGAGAUUAUCUUUGCUGACCAAAGGCUCUCCCAUGACAAACUGUGGCUUAGGGGCUACCACAGCCUUGGGUAUCCUGUCGUCUUGGGAAGCCAGCAAAUUUUCAACCAAGAUACCACAUUCAUCCGCCAACUCCUUUGCUUUUUCAAAAGCUUGCCCCUGCACCGGAGGGGGAACAUUCUGGGUUAACACCUUGAGGGGUGGGAUCGACUGUUUGGCCUGUUGUCCAAGCUGAGGAACGUCUGAUUUUUUCUUGCUUGUAGUUGAACUUGAUUUGCUCCCACUUGCACUUGCAUGUGACCUGCUCUUUUUCACUUCCUUCUGCAAUGUGCGUGUAUAGUCAUCAGGCUUAUAGUGUAAGUCAUACUAUGAUGGAGUGGUUAUGAAGUCUUUUGCCCAUGCUAUGUCCUUCUCGGUGUAUUUCGGGCGGGGCUCGGGUUCCUUCCUUUUCAUAUGCGCCUCAUGUUGUUCCUUUGCUAUCCUGGCGUUUUCCUCGGGGGUACGAUCAUAAGGUCUGAUAGGAAGAUUAGCAUGAGGUACCUUUGGGAGGGGCGACAAUUUGCGCUUUGGGGAGCUCCGUCCCUUAGAAAUCAUCGAUGAAGCGUUCUUGCUGGCACACUUCCGCUUAGUAUCAUGUGCGGGCGGCGGCGGAGACGGACGACCCAAGUCCGGCGGCGGUGAUCGAGAUGGACUCGUGUUGUGCUGGCCGACGUCAUGUGGAGGGCUUGAAGGUAAUGGAGGUGUAGGUGACCUGCGACGACUCGGAGGCGGUGUUGUCCUUGGGGCCGAGCCUGGAAGCUUGAUGUAGUUCUUGUCCCAUAGGAUGACUCCACCCAGUACUUCUCCGAGUGUCCUCUCAUCUUCGGGUCCAGCUAUGUCGAGCUCCAUAUCAUUAAACCCCGUCAUGAUUUCAUCCACCCCGACUUUAGCAAAGCCAGCUGGAAUCUCACGGCCAUGCCAGCGUGCAUCAGGGCCAGAAGGUAAAGCUUGUCCGACGGCCACCUUCAUGGAUAUGUUCUUGAAUUUCUGAUGGAGUUCACAUGAUGUUGACUCCUUGAUUCCAUCCACGGGGUAGCCGGGACCGUCCUCUAGCAUUCUUUGUUCAUCGUCGAGCGGGGCCUCAGAUUCAGCCACGCUGCUUUUCCGCUUAGAUGGGGCGCCGGUAAUAUCAACUGCAGGAUCUUCCUGGCGCGGUACUCCUCUAAGCUCAUCAAUCUGCUUCUCUUGCUCGUUAAUCCUGGCAAGCAACUGGUUGAACUUGUCAUUAUCCUCAUCCUGCUGCCGCUUCUUUGCUCUCUCUCUCGGCUUCUGUAAGUGUCUUGGUCUCUGGCAAACCCAAGCCACCACGGGUAAGAAGGACCGAAGCCUCGCGUUCGUCCUCCAUGUUCUUCAUUGCCGAGGACCAGUGUGAGCAAAUUUUUCUCUCUAUCUGCAGUGAACUUUCUUCUUCCCUCCUUAAUUUCUUUCACUAACCUUUUCCAAUUCUCCCUGGGUAUCCUAAGAUUGUCAUUGCAGAUGAGGUCCCCUGUUGUUUCGUCGUACGACCCAUCAUGCGCAAGGAACCAAUUUCUUGCUCUCAAUUCCCACUCAUCACGGAGUUGUUCAGGUACGACGCCUUUAUCUAUCAGAUCUUGCUCUUUCUUAUCCCACUUUGGGAUGGCAGUCUCAUAGCCCCCUGGCCCCAGCUUGUGGUGAUAUAUCUUCUUGUUGGCAUUUAUCUUGUUCUUUUCUGAUAAUGCCUGGGCAUCUUCUGACUCCUUGUACUCUUGAAAUGCCUUCCAGUGAUUCGCCUGCUUGGCUAGAUACCCCUCGAAUACUGGCACUUUCUGUGUCUUCAGAUAGUUUUUCCAUAGCUUCUUCUUCCAGCUACGGAACAGUUUGUUCAUCUUCUUCAGAGUCCACCGCUUGACUUUGGCCCUCAGUUUGUCUGCGGCGUCUUCAUUCUCACAUUCUGGCAGGUUGAAAUGUGACAUGAGAUCAUUCCAAAGAUUAUCUUUGUACCUUUCGGCGACAUAGUCACUAUCGGCUGCCCCUUUGCGCUUGUUCCACUCCCGAACGCUGAUCGGGACGUGAUCCCUAACGAGAACUCCGCAUUGCUUCUUGAAUGUGUCAGCACCAUUCUUCGGAAGCUUGGGUUUGCCCGUAGGAAAUAUCACCUCAAAUGUGUAAUGCGUCCGUGCAUCCAACUUUCUAGUCGGGCCUCGUUUCGUAGUUUUGCUCGAUGUGGAGGCCUAAGAGGGAGAAACAUUCGUCAAAUGAAAGUAUAUGUAUACAAUAUAGAGCUAUCUCCAAUAUUUUUCACAUAUUACAAGUGAUUGUCAAACUUCAUAUGUAUACCUCGCCUGACUUCUCCUCUUCACCGGCUUCUCCAUCAGUGGAGCUAUCACCUUCUCCGUCAUUGGACAUAUCUCCUGCCCCAUCAGCUUCAUCUUCGUGUCGCUCGACCUCCAUUCCAACGUCCUGGUUUAGAUAUAACGAUGGAGAUUCAGUUGGUUCAACGUCGGGGCCGUCUUUGAUUAUAUCUUCCAGAAGUUCUUCCUCUUCGAGGUUCCUCAUAUGUGGAUCCAUAGUUCUGCAAAAAACGGAUUCUCUUAACCUUUGUACCAAAAACCAAAGUAGGAGUACUUUUCCAAUUUGAGAGUCCUAGAUUUCUGCAUAGUAUUCAAAGUAGGAGUAAUUUUCCAAUUUGAGCAUUCAAUAAGCAAAACCAAAUCGUAAAAUAAAGUAGUAUUCAAAUUAGCAUGCAUUCAAUUAUAAGCUAAUACAUCAUCACUUUUGUCCGUACAUCGUUGAAUAUUAUCAUUAAUACUCCUCGAAUACUACCAUACAUAUAGCAUCACUAAUACAUCUAGAACCGUAGCGCCCGACGGGUAAGGGCGCGGGCGGUGGACACCCAAAGAGAAGGAACCAUCACAGGAUCAUAGCUCCAGUGAGAUCCCCGAAGAACCUGCCAGGUAUGCUCGAACCUGCCCUCCAACGCAACCAUGUAGCGACGGACAUGCUCAUCCUCCUCGCUGACACGGUGACGUACCACCUCCGCGGUGAUCGGAAGCCUCGGCACCCUCACUGGCCCACGCGACCGCCACCAAACAAGGAUCGGGUCAACGACGGGCUGGCUCCUCACCAACCUACGCCCCCCGCAAGGUAGCACCUCCCAAUACCAGCCGGGCGGAGCCCAGUCCCGGACAGGGCCCCUCUGAUCAAGCAGGUGUCCUCCGCCGAGUCGACGACGAGGAUGCGGGAUAGGCAUCGUAAAAUGAACUAAAAAAAUAAACUAGUUCUAUUAAUUUUCUUGCUAAAAUAAACUAUUAGCACUUAAGCAUAUACAAUAGCAAAAUUAAACUAUUAACACUUAUUUUCAUUUUCUUCUCCUCCUCUUCUUUCUUCUCUUCUCCUCCUCUUCUUUUCUUCUCUUCUCCUCCUCUUCUUUUCUUCUUUUCUUAUACACUAUACACUAUAUACACUAUAGCAAAAUUCCUCCUCUCCUUAUACACUAUACACUAUAUACACUAUACACUUAAGCAUAUACACUAUACACUAUACACUUUUUCUUCUUUUCUUCUCCUCCUCUUCUUAUUUUCAUUUUUCCUAAUCUUAUUUUCUUAUUUUUGUUCAUAUUUAUUCUUCUUCUAACCCUAACCUAAUUCUAAAUAUUUCUAACCCUAAUAAUCUUUUCUUUUUCUUCUUUUCUUCUCCUUUUUCUUCUUUUCUUCUCCUUUUUCUUCCUUUCUUCUCCUUUUUCUUCUUUUCUUCUCCUCUUUCUUCUUUUCUUCUAUACUGGCCGGAGUGUUGGGGAGGAGGGGCGAGGGGCUUACUGGCCGGAGUUUUGGCGAGGAGGAUGGCGCGGCGGCGAGGAGCACGGCGCGACGGCGUGUAGGACGGCGCGGCGACGAGGAGGACGGCGAGGAGGACGGCGCGGCGGCGGGGAGGACGGCGCGGAGGCGAGGAGGACGGCCGACGGCGAGCAGGACGGCGGGCAGCCUGACGGCGUCGGUUAGUUCGUCGUUGUGCCGCGCCGGGCAGGAGAACGAGAGGAAGAAGAAGAGAAAUGGACGAUUUGGGUUGGAAAUUUUGAAGUCCCGCUUAAAUAGGUGGAUCUAUAGUCCCGGUGCGUGGCUCGAACCGGGACUCAAGACCCCCUUUAGUCCCGGGUGGAGCCAUGACCCGGGACUAAAGGCCCUUUUUCGGGCAGACCAAGAGGCGGGAAGAAAGGGGUCUUAAUCCCGGUGCGUGGCUCCAGCCGGGACUAAAGCCCCUCCUCGGCUGUACGAUAAGUUUAGUCCCACCUCGCCCAACGAGGGGGACUAACACUUGUUUAUAAGCCCCGUCGCAGCUUCUCCAUCGAGCUCCUCUCUAAGCAGGCUUACGGGCCUAAACUCACAGAAAAUUGUAACUAUAUUAGAAAAUUGUAGGGAAAAUUCAAUCUAAAUUCAAUGAGAAUUUAGAUUGAAUUUUCUCUAUGAUUUCGAAUAUAGUUUCAAUUUUUUCUAUUUUCAUAAUUAAUAAUUUUGACUAUCCAAACUAUUAUCUAUUUUGUUAUUUUCAAUUAAAAACUAUGUUUAUUAAAAAUUCUUUUUGCAUAUUUGAGAAUUUGACAAAACUAUGAUAAUGAAAAGUGUUUCAUAUUGAAUAAAUAAUGCAAAAUUAUUUUGUAUUUUCAUAAUUAAUUAUUUUGACUAUCCAAAAUAUUAUCUAUUUUGUUAUUUUCAAUUAAAAACUAUGUUUAUUAAAAAAUUCUUUUUGCAUAUUUGAGAAUUUGACAAAACUAUGAUAAUGAAAAGUGUUUCAAAUUGAAUAAAUAAUGCAAAACUAUUUUUAUUUUCAUAAUUAAUAAUUUUGACUAUCCAAACUAUUAUCUAUUUUGUUAUUUUGACUUCAUUUGGUAUAUUUCGUGCAUGUACUUAUUUUUUUUGAGCUAGUUGACCCUGAAAUUGAAAAGCACUACAAAUGAACCACUACUGAAAUUCAGAAAUUUGCCGUCUGCCAAGGCGGACGGCAAAGGGGGCAACCAUGGACGGCAAAGGCUUUGCCGUCUGCCCCCUCAUGGCAAAGUAGAUGGUAAAAAAAAAUCCGGUGAAGAGGCUCUUUGCCGUCUGCCUUUCACAAAGCGGACGGCAAAGAAUCUUUGCCGAUGAGGGGAAGACGGCAAAAUAAGUGGGACGGCAUAUAUUGCAACGUCCCCGUUAAGUGUUAACGGCAGGCCUCCUCUCUUUGCCGUCUGCCUCCCCCCCUUUGCCAUGUGGGGUAAACGGCAAAGAGGGAGAGAGAGGGGGCAGAUUCUCUCUUUGCCGUCUGCCUCCCCCCCUUUGCCAUGUGGGGGCAGACGGCAAAAAGGGGAGAGAGAGGGGGCAGAUUCUCUCUUUGCCGUCUGCCUCCCCCCCUUUGCCAUGUGGGGGCAGACGGCAAAGAGGGGAGAGAGAGGGGGCAGAUUCCCCCUUUGCCGUCUGCCUCCACCCCUUUGCCAUGUGUUGGCAGACGGCAAAGAGGGGAACCAUCCCCUUUUUUAUUUAUUUUUUGUUAUAUCCAGCAUUUUUAACAAUAAUCAGGAUAUAUAUAUAUAUUUGACAUAAAUAAAUUUCUUUUCGUACCCAUAACCAUAUUAAAAUAACUCUCAUCCAUAGUGCAUACAUAUUAUGGAAGUUACAUUCGUACCAAACCUAAUAUUACACCAGUUUCAUCCACGUGCAUACAAAGUUUCAUAUAUUCAUAUACUACAACAGUUUCAAUACAACCCAUGGUACAAGAAAUCAUCUUCAAGCAUUCCAUCAACCAAGCUUCCCGUGAAGUGAAGGUAAUCUGCAAAAUGACAAAUAAGAAAGUUAGAAAAAUAAUACUAGAUGAAGUAGUGUAUAUAUAGGUUAUUUCGGAGAGAAAUUAGCUAAUUAUAGACCAUUUAGGAGCUAACUAAGCUAAUUAUGUCAUUUAGGUGGAACCCUAGCUAACUAUAGGAGAAGAGAAAGAGAAGAAGAAGUAAAAGAAGAAGGAGGAGGAGGAGAAGGAGAAGGAAGAGGAGAAGAAGAAGAAAAAGGAGGAGGAGGAGGAGGAGGAGAAGGAGAAGGAAGAGGAGAAGAAGAAGAAGGAGAAGAAGGAGAAGAAGAAGGAGAGAGAGAGAGAGGAGAAGGAGCUCGCNNNNNNNNNNNNNNNNNNNNNNNNNNNNNNNNNNNNNNNNNNNNNNNNNNNNNNNNNNNNNNNNNNNNNNNNNNNNNNNNNNNNNNNNNNNNNNNNNNNNAAAAUUAAGUCCCACUUUAAGUCUCCAAAACUAAGCCACUAAUAAAUACGUCAAAAAUGGCAUAAGAACCUUGGUUAGCUCAUGAAUAUUGUAUACUUAGCUUGUUUUCCUCUAAAAUGAGAUAAUUAGCCCAUUUAGCUCCAAAAAGACAUAAUUAGGUAAUUUAGCUCCAAUAAGAGGAGAAUAAAUAGGAAAAAUGAAAACAAAGAAGAAGAAGAAGAAGAGAAGAAUGAGAAGGAGGAGGAGGAGGAGGAGGAGGARGAGAAGGAGGAGAAGGCCAAGGACCUUCUAGUCCUUCUCCUCCUCCUCCUUCUCCUCCUUCUCCUCCUUCUUCUUGAUUUCUUCUUCUUCUCCUCCUCCUCCUUCUUCUUCCCCUCUUUCAUAUUAUCCUUKCUUUAAUUUCCCCAACAWUGACAUAAUUAGCCCAUUUAGCUCCAAAAUGCCAUAAUAAGCUCAGAAUGGCAUAAGAACCUUGGUGAGCUCAUGAAUAUUAUAUACUUAGCUUGUUUUCCUGUAAAAUGGGAUAAUUAGCCCAUUUAGCUCMAAAAAGACAUAAUUAGGUAAUUUAGCUCCAACAAGAGGAGAAGAGGAGAAGAAAUAGGCAAAAUGAAAAGAAAGAAGAAGAAGAAGAAGAGAAGAAGAAGAGAAGAAGGAGAAGGAGGAGGAGGAGGAGGAGGAGAAGGCCAAGGACCUUCUAGUCCUUCUCCUCCCCCUCCUUCUCCUCCUUCUUCUUGAUUUCUUCUUCUUCUCCUCCUCCUCCUCUUUCUUCUCCUCUUUCAUAUUAUCCUUGCUUUAAUUAACCCAACAAUGACAUAAUUAGCCCAUUUAGCUCCAAAAUACCAUAAUAAGCUCAAAAUGGCAUAAGAACCUUGGUUAGCUCAUUAAUAUUAUAUACUUAGCUUGUUUUCCUCUAAAAUGGUAUAAUUAGCCCAUUUAGCUCAAAAAAGACAUAAUUAGGUAAUUUAGCUCCAACAAAUGAUAUAUAGUUCACCACACAUAUACUUAGCUUGUUUUCCGCUAAAAAUGACAUAAUUAGCUUAAAAACAUCAUAUUUUGUUCUUCUUCUAACUUUCUUAUUCACAUUUUUGCAGAUUGGAUAUACUACAUGCAUGGGAGCUGGCAUUCAUGGAGUUGAACAAUGUCGAUGGAUGAACUUUAUAUGUAUAUCAUCUAGUUUUCAUUUGAGUUGAUGAACAAUGUUGAACUAUAUGUAUAUGUAUAUAUGGAUAAACAGUGCAAUACUUGGUAUGUUGGUUCUUUGGAUAUAUGGGGAUGUACAUUGGUGAAUCAUAUAUGUGUGGUGAAUUAUAUAUAUGUGUUGGCAAGUAUAUCUGUCGUGAACUAUAUAUCAUAUAUGUGUGGUGAAUUAUAUAAAUGUGCUAUCAAUAAUAUAUAUAUAUAUAUAUAUAUAUAUAUGUAUAUGUGUGUGUGUGUGUGUGUUGUGAAACAAUNNNNNNNNNNNNNNNNNNNNNNNNNNNNNNNNNNNNNNNNNNNNNNNNNNNNNNNNNNNNNNNNNNNNNNNNNNNNNNNNNNNNNNNNNNNNNNNNNNNNCACGUAGCUUCUUUCAUGUGACAUGAAUGUUCAGAUCCGUAAGAUUCAAAACAAUAGUUUGCUAUUGACAUGAAAACAAUAAUACUUCAAGCAAACUAUCAAGGUAACCAUGAACUUUCAAAAUAACAAGGCCAAAGAAAGUCACCCUACAAAAUCAUAUAGUCUGGCUAUGCUCCAUAAUCCUCACACAACUAAUGUAAAUCAUGCACAACCCCGGUAUUGGCCAAGUAAUUGUUUUCGCACUCUUUACUUUCUCAAACUUUUUAUAACUAUCACGCAAUACAUCAGCGUGAGCCAUGGAUAUUGUACUAUAGGUGGAAUAGAGUGUGGUGGUGGUUGUGAGAGAAAAAGGAGGAGAUGGUCACAUUGACUCGGCGUAUCAAAGGGCUAUGGAGAUGCCCAUUAAUAGAUAUCAAUGUGAAUGAGUAGGGAUUGCCAUACAAAUGAUGCACUAGAGCUAAGAGUAUGUUAAAGCUCUUAAGAAAACUAGCGGGUGUUCAUCCAACUUGCUUGCUCACGAAGACCUAAGGCAAUUUUGAGGAAGCCUAUCAUUGGAAUAUACAAGCCAAGUUAUAUAAUAAAAAUUUCCCACUAGCUAUACGGUGGUGACAAAACGAGAGACUCUCAAUCAUGAAAAUCAUGGUGCUUAAUAAGCACAAGUGUGGAAAGAUAGUAGCAUUGUCCAUUCUCUCUUUUUCUCUCAUUUUUUUUGGUGGGCUCUUUGGCCUCUUUUUUUUGGUGGGCAUCUUUGGCCUCUUUUAUGUCCUCACAGGGGACAAUGCUCCAUCAAUGAUGAUCAUCACACUUACAACUCAAAACUUAGAGCAAUGAUGACUCUAUAUGGAAUGCAUUCGGUAGUGUACCGUGACAAUGAUCUAGCAUGGCAUAGACAUCAAUGGAAACAUCAUAGACAUCAAUGGAAACAUCAUGCUAGCUAUCUUAUGAUCAUGCAAUGGAAAUGUAGAAGUGGUGGCACAUGUCAUGGUGGUAGUUGCAUGGCAAUAUAUCUCGGAAUGGCUUUGAAAAAGCCAUAGUAGGUAGGUAUGGUGGUUGUUUUGAGGGAGGCUAAUGGUGGGUUUUAUGCACCGACGAAAGUUGCACGGCACUAAAGAAGAUAGUGAUGGUGGAAGGUGAAAGUGCAUCUAAACCAUGGACUCAACAUUAGUCAUGAAGAACUCAUAUACUUGUUGCAAAAAAUUUAGUAGUAAUCGAAACAAAGCAUUCAACGCAUACUCCUAGGGGAAGGGUUGGUAGGUAUAAACCAUCGCGCGAUCCCGACCGCCACACAAAGGAUGACAAUCAAUAUACUAAUCAUGCUCAGACUUCAUCACAUAGAGGUUCACCAUACGUGGAUGCUACGGGAAUCACUAACUUCAACUCAAGUAUGUCUAGAUCCACAACACCUUACUAAUAUAACUUUAAUAUUACCACAACCACAACUCAAAACUGAUUGAGAUGAAUCAAACUUCUCUAACUACUCAAUGCACAUGAAGGUGGAAGUUUUCAUAUCCCUUUGGAUAAAUACCCCUUUUGAGACUACUUUCAUAGCAUAGAUCAACUACCACGCCACGCGCUUCCGUGCUCUAAAUGAUAGAAGUGAAACACAUAGAGCAAAAUAAAUUAGCUCAAAAGAUAUAAGUGAAACACAUGUGAGCUGAAUUGUCUAACCAAAGGAUAUAAGUGAAGCUCGACAAAAUCACGGUGAGUGCAUUUCUCUCUCUCUAGGUGUGCAACAAGGAAGAUUGUGGCACAACAAAAAUAAAAGACUCCUACGAUACAAGACGCUCCAAGCAAAACACAUAACAUGUGGUGAAUAAAAUAUAGCCCCCAAGUAACGUUCAUUACUGGAAAUCAGUUUUUUGCCGUGUGCCUAAUCUUUGCUGUCAGCUAGCUGAUGGCAAAGAGUGUCUUUGCCGUCAGCUCUCAGAAAGCAGAUGGCAAAGAACUGGAUGAUGGCAAAGAAGGUCUUUGCCAACAGUCAAUCCUUUGUUGUCUGCCGCAAACGACAAAGAAGGGGACAGGAGACGGCAAAGAAGCUCAUUCGGCCCGGGGAACCUUAGGUCAACCAACGCCCUUCUUUGUCGUCUGCUGGCGGACGGCAAAGAUGCCAGAGGCAGACGUCAAAGAGUAUAGACCCCUUUGCCGUCCGCCAGCAGACGACAAAGGUCCUGAAUCUACUCAAACGGCCGUCCCGCCCCCACCCCGGCCCUCUCUCUCUCUCAAACGGCCACUCUCUCUCUCUCCUCCCCCGACACCCAACGCCGCCACCGUCGCCCGGCCACCCCCGGCGCCCCCGGUUCCCCACAACCCUCCGGCACCACUGGUGCCGCCCCCGCAGCCCCACCGCCGGCGCCGCUGGUGCCCCUGGUGCCGCCCCGCAGCCCCACCGCCGGCGCCCCUGCUGCACCCCCAGCCCCACCACCGGCGCCGCCGGCCCAGCCACUGCCCCGCAGGCCCCGGCGCCGCCCCCGCAGCCCCAACACUGCCGGUAACGCCCCMMCACCCCACCCCCUUGUUAUUUAGUUUUUUGGAGGAAGAAGAAGAAUAAGAAGAGAGGAGGAGAAGAGGAGAAGAAGAGGAGGAGUAGGAGGAGGAGGAGUAGGAGGAGGAUGAGGAAGAGAAGAAAAAGAAGAAGAAGAACAAGAAGAACAAGAAGAAGAGAAGAAAAAAUUAAGAAGGAGAAGAAGAAGAAGAGAAGAAAAAAAAAGAAGGAGAAGAAGUAAAGAAGAAGAGAAGAAGAGAAUAAGAAAAAAAUAAGAAGGAGAAGAAGAGAAAAAAGAAGAAGAAGUUGAUUUUUUAUUGUCUGGUAUUUAGUUUUUUGGAAUUAAUUAGUAGUNNNNNNNNNNNNNNNNNNNNNNNNNNNNNNNNNNNNNNNNNNNNNNNNNNNNNNNNNNNNNNNNNNNNNNNNNNNNNNNNNNNNNNNNNNNNNNNNNNNNCAUGAUCAAACACUAUCACCCAAACUAAUCAUUAAAGGCUUUACUUGGCACAUAUUUUUAUAAUACAAUGGAAAUUUACAAAGGACAUAAUUAUUUGUGCGAGAAACUUCCAUGAAGAAUUCUACAUUGUUUCCAUGAGCAUGAACACAAGUGUUCAAGGUCGACCCUCACUUCCACAAUGCAUCACCUUUCAAUCGCUUCUCUUUUUGAAAAAGUUUUAAGUUCCCCUCUAUAUUUUUUUGUUUUUAAACUAUAUAAAAGCACUAAACAGAAAGAMAAAGAUAAAUWCAUUGGGUUGCCUCCCAACAAGCGCUAUUGUUUAACGCCCUUAGCUAGGCAUUGAUAAUUCAAUGAUGCUCACACAAAASACAAGAAUUGAAGCACAACGAGAGCAUCAUAAAGCAUGUGAAAAUCACAUGUAAGUCUAACAUACUUCCUAUGCAUAGGCAUUUUAUWGGAAAACAGAUUGUCAAGACAACCAAUAGUUACCAUAUGCAAGGAAGAAGAAAGAGACAAUAGCAAUCUCCACAUAACAAGAGGUAAUUUGGUAACAUGAAAGUUUCUACCACAAUAUUUUCCUCUCUCAUAGUAAUUACAUGUGGGAUCAUAUUCGAAUUAAACAAUGUAACUAUCACAUAGGAUAUUCUUUUCAUGACCCACAUGCAUGCAAAGUUCACGCUCUUAAAAAAUAGUGGGAUUAUCAUCAACCAAUGUCAUGAUUUCUCCAAACCCACUUUCAAUAAUAUUGCAAAUAUCAUAUUCAUCAUGAGGCUUAAACAAAUUUUCAAGAUCAUAAGAAAAAUCACCGCCCCACUCAUGAUCAUUGCAACAAGUAGGGGACAUAGCUAAACUAGCAUCUGCAAGCUUAGGGUUUUGCAUAUUCUUAGCAUGAUUGUCACUAAUAGAAUUUAUAGUGAAACCAUUCCAAUCAUGCUUUUCAUCCAAGGAGCCCUCGUCAAUCACUUCAUAAAUUUCUUCCUCACAAUUUUCAGAUUCACGCAUCUCAAGCAAAACUCCAUAAAGAUACUCAAGUGCACUCAACUCACUAGCAAUUGGAUCAACAUAAUUGGAUCUCUUAAAGAGAUUAGCAAGUGGAUGAGGAUCCAUAUCACUAGAUUUUCAGCAAGCGAAGAUGCAAACAUAUUGAAGGCACAUGGCACACAAGCGAACAGAAAGCAAGCGAGAGAAAAGGGCGAACCAAAAAGGCAAACAAAAAAAGGAAAACGAAAAAGGCGAAUGAAAACGGCAAAUGUGAAGUGGGGGAGAGGAAAACGAGAGGCAACUGGCAAAAAGGUAAAUGCAAGAGAUGAGUUUGUGACACCUACUUGGAUAGAUCUUGACUUGAUCUCUCCCCGGCAACGGCGCCAGAAAUAGGCGUGUUGACGGGAGAUUAUUCUUGUCUUGAUACUCCUCGGCAAGCGAUCCUCCCCGGCAACGGCGCCAGAAAUACUUCUCCUACGGCAACAAUAGACCUUCCCUGGCAACGGCGCCAGGAAUCCUUCUACUACGGGCUACGCCUCUAGGGAUUUCCUUGGCAAAUAUGCAAAGGAUUCCCCCGCGGCCUUGGAGCCUUGCGUUGUUGUUCCCUUGAAGAGGAAAGGGUGAUGUAGCACAGCGGCGGUAAGUAGUUCCCUCAGUUUCAGAACCAAGGUAUCAAUCCAGUAGGAGGAUCGCGUCAAGUCACAAGUACCUGCACAAACACAAAGAGCUUGCACCCAAUGCUAUGAAGGGGUUGUCAAUCCCUUAUAGAUUGUUUGCAAAGUGAGAACUGAAAGCAAAAAGUAAACAAACCAAAGUAAAAGUAAAAGUGGAAACGAUAGUUGUGAAUAGACCCGGGGGCUGUAGUGUUCACUAGUGGCUUCUCUCAUGAAAGCAAGUAGACGGUGGGUGAACGAAUUACUGUCGAGCAAUUUAUAGAACCGCGCAAAGUCAUGACGUUAUCUAUGGCAAUGAUCAUAUCUAUAGGCAUCAUGUCCAAAACAAGUAGACCGAUACUUUAUGCAUACUACUAUUACUCCACACGUCGACCGCUAUCCAGCAUGCAUCUAGUGUAUUGAGUUCAUAAGAACAGAGUAACGCCUUAAGCAAGAUGACAUGAUGUAUAUGAACAAUCUCAAAUCUAUGAUGAAAGCCCAUCUUGUUACCCUUGAUGGAAAACACCUAUCCCCUGUGUGCCUUGCUGCCCCUUUUGUCACUGGGAAAGGUCACCGCACGGUAUGAACCCAAAACCAAGCACUUCUCCCAUUGCAAGAAUCAUAUAUCUAGUUGGCCAAACAAAACCCAAGACUCGGAAAGACUUACAAGGAUAUCAAAUCAUGCAUAUAAGAAAUCAGGAAAGACUCAAAUAUAAUUCAUAGAUAAUCUAAUCACAAAUCCACAAUUCAUCGGAUCUCGACAAACACACCGCCAAAGAGGAUUACAUCGGAUAGAUCUCCAUGAAGAUCAUGGAGAACAUUGUAUUGAAGAUCCAAGAGAGAGAAGAAGCCAUCUAGCUACUAACUAUGGACCCGUAGGUCUGAAGUGGACUACUCACGAGUCAUUAGUAGAGGCGAUGAUCUUGAUGUAGAAACCCUCCAACUCCAAACUCCCCUCCGGCAGGGCACCGGGAAGGGUCUCCAGAUGGGAUCUCGCGGAAACGGAAGCUUGCGGCGGCAGAAAAGUGUUUUCGUGGAUGCCCUGAUUUUUUCUGGGAUUUUAGGGAAUAUAUAGGCGAAAGAGAUAGGGCAGGGGAGAGCCAGGGAGGCCACAAGCCUAGUCGCCGCGGGCCCCCCUGGCCGCGGCGUCAGGGCUUGUGGGCCUCCUGCCUUGGCCCUAAAGUCCCCCGAUCUUCUUCUGUUCUGGAAAAUUUUAUUUUGGGGAUUUUAUUCCNNNNNNNNNNNNNNNNNNNNNNNNNNNNNNNNNNNNNNNNNNNNNNNNNNNNNNNNNNNNNNNNNNNNNNNNNNNNNNNNNNNNNNNNNNNNNNNNNNNNAGAAAUUUGACAAAACUUAUGAUAAUUGAAAAGUGUUUCAAAUUUGAAUAAAUAAUGCUUAAACUAUUUUUUUUCAUAAUUAAUAAUUUUGACUAUCCAAACUAUUAUCUAUUUUGUUAUUUUCAAUUAAAAACUAUGUUUAUUAAAAAUUCUUUUUGCAUAUUUGAGAAUUUGACAAAACUAUGAUAAUGAAAAGUGUUUCAAAUUGAAUAAAUAAUGCAAAACUAUUUUUUAUUUUCAUAAUUAAUAAUUUUGACUAUCCAAACUAUUAUCUAUUUUGUUAUUUUCAAUUAAAACUAUGUUUAUUAAAAAUUCUUUUUGCAUAUUUGAGUAAUUUAACAAAACUAUGAUAAUGAAAAGUGUUUCAAAUUGAAUAAAUAAUGCAAAACUAUUUUUAUUUUCAUAAUUAAUAAUUUUGACUAGUCCAAACUAUUAAGUCUAUUUGUUAUUUGACUUCAUUUGGUAUAUUCGUGCAUGUACUUAUUUUUUUUGAGACUAAGUUGANNNNNNNNNNNNNNNNNNNNNNNNNNNNNNNNNNNNNNNNNNNNNNNNNNNNNNNNNNNNNNNNNNNNNNNNNNNNNNNNNNNNNNNNNNNNNNNNNNNNUCCUAUGUGAUAGCUAUAUUGUUGAAUUUGAAUAUGAUCCCACAUGUAAUUAUUGUGAGAGAGGAAAAUAUGGUGGUAGAAAUUUUCAUACCACUAAAUCACCUCUUGUUUUGUUGAGAUUGAUAUUGUCUCUUUCUUCUUCCUUGCAUAUGGUAACUAUUGGUUGUCUUGACAAUCUKWUUUCCUAUAAAAUGCCUAUGCAUAGGAAGUAUGUUAGACUUASAUGUKAUUUUCACAUGCUUUAUGAUGCUCUCGUUGUGCUUCAAUUCUUGUYKUUUGUGUGAGCAUCAUUGAAUUAUCAAUGCCUAGCUAAGGGCGUUAAACAAUAGCGCUUGUUGGGAGGCAACCCAAUGAAUUUAUCUUUUCUUUCUGUUUAGUGUUUUCCAUACUUUCAUAUAUCUGUUAUGAUUGUGUCUUUUGUGUUUAUUUUUGUGUUUGAUCCAAGCAAAACCUUUAUGACUAGUCUCGGUGAUGGUUGUUUGAUCCUGCUGGAAAAAAGAUAGAAACUUUUCGUCUCACGAGAUGAUUUUUCUAUUUUUAUUUCAGAAAAAAGAUUAUGAGUUGAUUCUUUUUUCUGCUGGUUGAUAUUCCUUUUUCCCAGGCAGUCGUAAGUUUUCAGAAUUUUGGAGGUACCAGAAGUAUACGAAGUAUACAGAUUGCUACAGACUGGUCUGUUUUUGACAGAUUCUGUUUUUGUUGAGUUGGUUGCUUGUUUUGAUGAAACUAUGGAUAGUAUAGGGGGUCAUAAUAGUCUGAUGUCUAUGAGGUCAGCUACUAAUGGUAGGCUCAUCAGCACUGAACAAACUACAAUCCAUGGGAAUCGUAAAGCAAGAUGAUCACCUACCAAACACAGUUGACGUNNNNNNNNNNNNNNNNNNNNNNNNNNNNNNNNNNNNNNNNNNNNNNNNNNNNNNNNNNNNNNNNNNNNNNNNNNNNNNNNNNNNNNNNNNNNNNNNNNNNCACGUAGCCUCACUUCAUUUGGUAUAUUUCGUGCAUUUACUUAUUUUUUUUUGAGCUAGUUGACCCUGAAAUUGAAAAGCACUACAAAUGAACUCUGAAAAUGUUGAAAGUUGGCAUGCUGUCAUCAUUUCACCCACAUAGCAUGUGUUAAAAAGUUGAGAGGGCUAUGAAAAAAACUGGAUGCAGUUCAUGUACAAAACUGACAAUCCCUCUGGAAGUAGCUGGGUUUCGAACGAGAACUCAUCUCUUACAAAGGGAUUUCAUUUUUUUAAACUUAUUUGAACUCCAUACUUUUUGUGUGUUCAAAAUGCACCAUUCAAAGGCACAUCACAAAAUUUCAACAAUUUCUGACUUCAUUUGGUAUAUUUCGUGCUAUUUACUUUUUUUUGAGCUAGUUGACCCUGAAAUUGAAAAGCACUACAAAUGAACUCUGAAAAUGUUGAAAGUUGGCAUGCUAUCAUCAUUUCAGCCACAUAGCAUGUGUUAAAAAGUUGAGAGGGCUACGAGAAAAACUGGAUGCAGUUCGUGUACAAAACUGACAAUCUCUCUCGAAGUAGCAGGGUUUCGAACGAGAACUCAUCUCUUACAAAGGGAUUUCAUUUUUUUAAAACUUAUUUGAACUCCAUAAUUUUUGUGUGUUCAAAAUGCACCAUUCAAAGGCACAUCACAAAAUUUCAAUAAUUUCUCACUUCAUUUGGUAUAUUUCGUGCAUUUACUUAUUUUUUUGAGCUAGUUGACCCUGAAAUUGAAAAGCACUACAAAUGAACUCUGAAAAUGUUGAAAGUUGGCAUGCUAUCAUCAUUUCACCCACAUAGCAUGUGUUAAAAAGUUGAGAGGGCUACAACGAAAACUUGAUGCAGUUCGUUUACAAAAUUAACAAUCUCUCUCGAAGUAGCAGGGUUUCGAACGAGAACUCAUCUCUUACAAAGGGAUUUCAUUUUUUUAAACUUAUUUGAACUCCAUACUUUUUGUGUGUUAAAAAUGCACCAUUCAAAGGCACAUCAAAAAAUUUCAACAAUUUCUGACUUCAUUUGGUAUAUUUCGUGCAUUUACUUAUUUUUUUUGAGCUAGUUGACCCUGAAAUUGAAAAGCACUACAAAUGAACUCUGAAAAUGUUGAAAGUUGGCAUGCUGUCAUCAUUUCACCCACAUAGCAUGUGUUAAAAAGUUGAAAGGGCUAUGACAAAAACUGGAUGCAGUUCAUGUACAAAACUGACAAUCCCUCUCGAAGUAGCAGGGUUUCGAAUGAGAACUCAUCUCUUACAAAGGGAUUUCAUUUUUUUUAAACUUAUUUGAACUCCAUACUUUUUGUGUGUUCAAAAUGAACCAUUCAAAGGCACAUCACAAAAUUGCAACAAUUUCUGACUUCAUUUCGUAUAUUUCGUGCAUUUACUUAUUUUUUUUGAGCUAGUUGACCCUGAAAUUGAAAAGCACUACAAAUGUACUCUGAAAAUGUUGAAAGUUGGCAUACUAUAAUCAUUUAACCCACAUAGCAUGUGUUAAAAAGUUGAGAGGGCUACGACAAAAACUGGAUGCAGUUCGUGUACAAAACUGACAAUCUCUCUCGAAGUAGCAGGGUUUCGAACGAGAACUCAUCUCUUACAAAGGGAUUUCAUUUUUUUAAACUUAUUUGAACUCCAUACUUUUUGUGUGUUCAAAAUGCACCAUUCAAAGGCACGUCACAAAAUUUCAAUAAUUUCUCACUUCAUUUGGUAUAUUUCGUGCAUUUACUUUAUUUUUUUGAGCUAGUUGACCCUGAAAUUGNNNNNNNNNNNNNNNNNNNNNNNNNNNNNNNNNNNNNNNNNNNNNNNNNNNNNNNNNNNNNNNNNNNNNNNNNNNNNNNNNNNNNNNNNNNNNNNNNNNNCCUAUCAUGGUGAUGUCCAUCUACGAGAGGGGAUAUUCGAUCUACGUACCCUUGUAGAUCGCACAGCUGAAGUGUUAGUGAACACGGUUGAUGUAGUGGAACGUCCUGAUGUCCCUCGAUCCGCCCCGCGAACAAUCCCGCGAUCAGUCCCACGAUCUAGUACCGAACGGACGGCACCUCCGCGUUCAGCACACGUACAGCUCGACGAUGAUCUCGGCCUUCUUGAUCCAGCAAGAGAGACGGAGAGGUAGAAGAUUUCUCCGGCAGCGUGACGGCGCUCCGGAGGUUGGUGAUGACCUUGUCUCAGCAGGGCUCCGCCCGAGCUCCGUAGAAACGCGAUCUAGAGGAAAAACCGUGGAGGUAUGUGGUCGGGCUGCCGUGGAAAAGUGCGUCUUCAUAGGUUACCCAAAAGAGACAGUUGGGUACACCUUCUAUCUCAAAUCCGAGGGCAAAGUGUUUGUUGCUAAAAACGGAGUCUUUUCUCGAGAAGGUAGUUUCUCUCAAGAGAAUUGAGUGGGAGGAAGAUAGAACUUGACGUAGGUUGUNNNNNNNNNNNNNNNNNNNNNNNNNNNNNNNNNNNNNNNNNNNNNNNNNNNNNNNNNNNNNNNNNNNNNNNNNNNNNNNNNNNNNNNNNNNNNNNNNNNNCUAUUGGUUACUGACCAGAGAGUGUCUCGGUCAUGUCUACAUAGUUCUCGAACCCGCAGGGUCUUGCUACCUCUUGAGUUUGCGUUGGUUUUUCCCUUGAAGAGGAAAGGGUGAUGCAGCACAGUAGCAGUAAGUAKUUCCCUCAGUUUSAGAACCAAGGUAUCAAUCCAGUAGGAGKAUCRMGKMAAGUCWMCAAAGUACCUGCGCAAAAACAGCAAACUUGCACCCAACGCUACAAAGGGGUUGUCAAUACCUUCAAGAUUGAUUGCAAGGUGAGAUCUGAAGGCGGAAAGUGCAACAAAGUAAAAGUGUAAGGCUGAAAAUAUGAUGUGGAGUAGACCCGGGGGCCAUAGUGUUCACUAGAGGCUUCUCCAAAAUAGCAAAUAUUAUGGUGGAUGAACAAAUUACUGUCGAGCAAUUGAUAGAACUGCGCAAAGUCAUGACGAUAUCUAAGGCAAUGAUCCUACAUAUAGGCAUCACGUCCGAGACAAGUAGACCGAUACUUUCUGNNNNNNNNNNNNNNNNNNNNNNNNNNNNNNNNNNNNNNNNNNNNNNNNNNNNNNNNNNNNNNNNNNNNNNNNNNNNNNNNNNNNNNNNNNNNNNNNNNNNUAUCAUGUACUUCUUGGACCAAUUUUACAUUAUGUUCUAGUUUCUGUUUUGUUGCCAUUAUAGUUUCCCAAUUUGAAUGGUUUAGCCCUUUCUAACUUCGUUUGCUACUUUUGAAUGGUUUAGCCCUUUCUAACUUCAUGGUAUCAUGCAUUUCGACCACAUAUAUAUACAAAAAGUCUUUAGUUCAAAUAAGUUCAAAUAAGUUCAUGCAUUUCAACAUUUUCAGAGUUCAUUUGUAGUGCUUUUCAAUUUCAGGGUCAACUAGCUCAAAAAAAAUAAGUAAAUGCACGAAAUAUACCAAAUGAAGUCAGAAAUUGUUGAAAUUUUGUGAUGUGCCUUUGAAUGGUGCAUUUUGAACACACAAAAAGUAUGGAGUUCAAAUAAGUUUAAAAAAAAUGAAAUCCCUUUGUAAGAGAUGAGUUCUCGUUCGAAACCCUGCUACUUCGAGAGAGAUUGUCAGUUUUGUACACGAACUGCAUCCAGUUUUUGUCGUAGCCUUCUCAACUUUUUAACACAUGCUAAUGUGGGUGAAAUGACGAUAGCAUGCCAACUUUCAACAUUUUCAGAGUUCAUUUGUAGUGCUUUUCAAUUUCAGGGUCAACUAGCUCAAAAAAAUACGUAAAUGCACGAAAUAUACAAAAUGAAGUAAGAAAUUGUUGAAAUUUUGUGAUGUGCCUUUGAAUGGUGCAUUUUGAACACACAAAAAGUAUGGAGUUCAAAUAAGUUUAAAAAAAAAUGAAMUMCSUKUGUAAGAGAUGAGUUCUCGUUCGAAACCCAGCUACUUCCAGAGGGAUUGUCAGUUUUGUACAUGAACUGCAUCCAGUUUUUUUCAUAGCCCUCUCAACUUUUUAACACAUGCUAUGUGGGUGAAAUGAUGACAGCAUGCCAACUUUCAACAUUUUCAGAGUUCAUUUGUAGUGCUUUUCAAUUUCAGGGUCAACUAGCUCAAAAAAAAAUAAGUAAAUGCACGAAAUAUACCAAAUGAAGUCAGAAAUUGUUGAAAUUUUUUGAUGUGCCUUUGAAUGGUGCAUUUUGAACACACAAAAAGUAUGGAGUUCAAAUAAGUUUAAAAAAAUGAAAUCCCUUUGUAAGAGAUGAGUUCUCAUUCGAAACCCUGCUACUUCGAGAGAGAUUGUCAGUUUUGUACACGAACUGCAUCCAGUUUUUGUCGUAGCCCUUUCAACUUUUAACACAUGCUAUGUGGGUGAAAUGAUGAUAGCAUGCCAACUUUCAACAUUUUCACAGUUCAUUUGUAGUGCUUUUCAAUUUCAGGGUCAACUAGCUCAAAAAAAUAAGUAAAUGCACGAAAUAUACCAAAUGAAGUCAGAAAUUGUUGAAAUUUUCUGUUGUGCCUUUGAAUGGUGCAUUUUGAACACACAAAAAUUAUGGAUUUCAAAUAAGUUUUAAAAAAAUGAAAUCCUUUUGUAAGAGAUGAGUUCUCGUUCGAAACCCUGCUACUUCGAGAGAGAUUGUCAGUUUUGAACACGAACUGCAUCCAGUUUUUGUCGUAGCCCUCUCAACUUUCUAACACAUGCUAUGUGGGUUAAAUGAUGAUAGCAUGCCAACUUUCAACAUUUUUCAGAGUUCAUUUGUAGUGCUUUUCAAUUUCAGGGUCAACUAGCUCAAAAAAAAUAAGUAAAUGCACGAAAUAUACCAAAUGAAGUCAGAAAUUGUUGAAAUUUUGUGAUGUGCCUUUGAAUGGUGCAGUUUGAACACACAAAAAGUAUGGAGUUCAAAUAAGUUUUAAAAAAUGAAAUCCCUUUGUAAGAGAUGAGUUCUCGUUCGAAACCCUGCUACUUCGAGAGAGAUUGUUAGUUUUGUAAACGAACUGCAUCCAGUUUUUGUCAUAGCCCUCKCAACKUKUUAACACAUGCUAUGUGGGUGAAAUGAUGAUAGCAUGCCAACUUUCAACAUUUUCAGAGUUCAUUUGUAGUGCUUUUCAAUUUCAGGGUCAACUAGCUCAAAAAAAAAAGUAAAUGCACGAAAUAUACCAAAUGAAGUMAGAAAUUAGUUGAAAUUUUGUGUUGUGCCUUUGUAAUGGUGCAUUUUGAACANNNNNNNNNNNNNNNNNNNNNNNNNNNNNNNNNNNNNNNNNNNNNNNNNNNNNNNNNNNNNNNNNNNNNNNNNNNNNNNNNNNNNNNNNNNNNNNNNNNNGGGAUAAUUAACCCAUUUAGCUCCAAAAAGACAUAAUUAGGUAAUUUAGCUCCAACAAUAAAUAGGAAAAAUAGAAAAGAAAGAAAGAAGAAGAAGAAGAGAGGAAGGAGAAGGAGGAGGAGGAGGAGAAGGCCAAGGACCUUCUAGUCCUUCUCCUCCUCCUUGUCCUCCUUCUUGAUUUUCUUUUUCUUUCUCCUCCUCCUCCUCUUUCCUCUCCUMUUUCAUAUUAUCCUUGCUUUUAAUUUCCCCAAAAAUGACAUAAUUAGCUCAUUUAGCUCCAAAAUGCCAUAAUAACCUCAAAAUGGCAUAAGAACCUUGGUUAGAUCAUGAAUAUUAUAUACUUAGCUUGUUUUCCUAUAAAAUGAGAUAAUUAGCCCAUUUAGCUCCAAAAAGACAUAAUUAGGUAAUUUAGCUCCAAGAAGAGGAGAAGAGGAGAAGAGGAGAAGAAAUAAGAAAAAUGAAAAGAAAGAAGAAGAUGAAGAAGAGAAGAAUGAGAAGGAGGAGGAGUAGGAGGAGAAGGAGGAGAAGGCCAAGGACCUUCUAGUCCUUAUCCUCCUCCUCCUUCUCCUUCUUAUCCUCCCUCUUCUUGAUUUCUUCUUCUUCUCCUCCUCCUCCUCUUUUCUUCUCCCCUUUCAUAUUAUCCUUGCUUUAAUUUCCCCAAAAAGACAAUAAUUAGCCCAUUUAGCUCCAAAAUGCCAUAAUAAGGUCAAAAUGGCAUAAGAACCUUGGUUAGCUCAUGAAUAUUAUAUACUUAGCUUGUUUUCCUCUAAUAUGAGAUAUUUAGCCCAUUUAGCUCCAAGAAGACAUAGUUAGCUAAUUUAGCUCCUAGAAGAGGAGAAGAAAUAGGAAAAAUGAAAAGAAAGAAUAAGAAGAAGAAGAGAAGAAGGAGAAGGAGGAGGAGAAGGACGAAGGACGUAGNNNNNNNNNNNNNNNNNNNNNNNNNNNNNNNNNNNNNNNNNNNNNNNNNNNNNNNNNNNNNNNNNNNNNNNNNNNNNNNNNNNNNNNNNNNNNNNNNNNNCACGAAAUAUACGAAAUGAAGUUCAGAAAUUGUUAGCUAAUUUUGUUGAUGUGCCUUUGUAAUGGUCCAUUUUGAACUACACAAAAAGUAUAGGAGUUCAAAUAAGUUUAAAAAAAAUGAAAAUCCCUUUGUAAGAGAUGAGUUCUCAUUCGAAACCCUSCUACUUCGAGAGAGAUUGUCAGUUUUGUACACGAACUGCAUCCAGUUUUUGUCGUAGCCCUCUCAACUUUUUAACACAUGCUAUGUGGGUUAAAUGAUUAUAGUAUGUGAACUUUCAACAUUUUUAGAGUACAUUUGUAGUGCUUUUCAAUUUCAGGGUCAACUAGCUCAAAAAAAAUAAGUAAAUGCACGAAAUAUACGAAAUGAAGUCAGAAAUUGUUGACUAAUUUUGUGAUGUUGACCUUUGGAAUGGUCCAUUUUGAACACACAAAAAGUAUGGAGUUCAAAUAAGUUUAAAAAAAUGAAAUCCCUUUGUAAGAGAUGAGUUCUCGUUCGAAACCCAGCUACUUCCAGAGGAGGGGGGGGGGUUUNNNNNNNNNNNNNNNNNNNNNNNNNNNNNNNNNNNNNNNNNNNNNNNNNNNNNNNNNNNNNNNNNNNNNNNNNNNNNNNNNNNNNNNNNNNNNNNNNNNNUCAAGGSCCUACGUAGCGAUGAGUUCUCGUUCGAAACCCUGCUACUUCGAGAGARAUUGUCAGUUUUGUACACGAACUGCAUCMAGUUUUUCUCGUAGCCCUCUCAACUUUUUAACACAUGCUAUGUGGGUGAAAUGAUGAUAGCAUGCCAACUUUCAACAUUUUCACAGUUCAUUUGUAGUGCUUUUCAAUUUCAGGGUCAACUAGCUCMAAAAAAAUAAGUAAAUGCACGAAAUAUACAAAAUGAAGUAAGAAUUAGUUGAAAUUUUGUGAUGUGCCUUUGAAUGGUGCAUUUUGAACACACAAAAAGCAUGGAGUUCAAAUAAGUUUAAAAAAAUGAAAUCCCUUUGUAAGAGAUGAGUUCUCGUUCGAAACCCUGCUACUUCGAGAGGGAUUGUCAGUUUUCUACAUGAACUGCAUCCAGUUUUUGUCAUAGCCCUUUCAACUUUUUAACACAUGCUAUGUGGGUGAAAUGAUGACAGCAUGCCAACUUUCAACAUUUUCAGAGUUCAUUUGUAGUGCUUUUCAAUUUCAGGGUCAACUAGCUACAAAAAAAUAAGUAAAUGCACGAAAUAUACCAAAUGAAGUCAAGAAAGCNNNNNNNNNNNNNNNNNNNNNNNNNNNNNNNNNNNNNNNNNNNNNNNNNNNNNNNNNNNNNNNNNNNNNNNNNNNNNNNNNNNNNNNNNNNNNNNNNNNNGGUAAAGGAUAGUAGCAUUGUCCCUUCUCUCUUUUCUCUCAUUUUUUUAUUUUUUUCUUCUUUUUUUGGUGGGCUUCUUUGGCCUUCUUUUUACUUCCUCACAUGGGACAAUGMUCYAWYAAUGAUGAUCAUCACACUUACAACUCAAAACUUAGAGCAAUGAUGACUCUAUAUGGAAUGCACUUCGGUAGUGUACCGUGACAAUGAUCUAGCAUGGCAUAGACAUCAAUGGAAACAUCAUGCUAGCUAUCUUAUGAUCAUGCAAUGGCAAUGUAGAAGUGGUGGCACAUGUCAUGGUGGUAGUUUCAUGGCAAUAUAUCUCGGAAUGGCUUUGAAAAAACCAUAGUAGGUAGGUAUGGUGGUUGUUUUGAGGAAGGCAUAUGGUGGGUUUGUGUACCGGCAAAAAAUGCGCGACACUAGAGAGGCUAGCAAUGGUGGAUGGUGAAAGUGCAUCUAUACCAUGGACUCACAUUAGUCAUGAAGAACUCACAUACUUGUUGCGAAAGUUUUUAUUAUUAAUCGAAACAAAGUGCUAAACGCAUACUCCUAGGGGAAGGGUUGGUAGGUGUUAACCAUNNNNNNNNNNNNNNNNNNNNNNNNNNNNNNNNNNNNNNNNNNNNNNNNNNNNNNNNNNNNNNNNNNNNNNNNNNNNNNNNNNNNNNNNNNNNNNNNNNNNUCUGAAAACUUACGACUGCCUGGGAAAAAGGAAUAUCAACCAGCAGAAAAAAGAAUCAACUCAUAAUCUUUUUUCUGAAUAAAAAUGAAAAAUCAUCUCGUGAGCGAAAAGUUUCUAUCUUUUUUUCCAGCAGGAUCAAACGAUCAUCCCCAAGACUAAUCAUAACGGUUUCACUUGGCACAAAGGAAAAAGAAACACAAAAAAACACAAUCAUAACAGAAUUAUGAAAGUAUGGAAAACACUAAACAGAAAGAAAAAGAUAAAUUCAUUGGGUUGCCUCCCAACAAGCGCUAUUGUUUAACGCCCUUAGCUAGGCAUUGAUAAUUCAAUGAUGCUCACACAAAAGACAAGAAUUGAAGCACAACGAGAGCAUCAUAAAGCAUGUGAAAAUCACAUSUAAGUCUAACAUACUUCCUAUGCAUAGGCAUUUUAUAGGAAAMWRAUUGUCAAGACAACCAAUAGUUACCGUAUGCAAGGAAGAAGAAAGAGACAAUAGCAAUCUCCACAUAACGAGAGGUAAUUUGGUAACAUGAAAGUUUCUACCACAAUAUUUUCCUCUCUCAUAGUAAUUACAUGUGGGAUCAUAUUCGAAUUAAACAAUGUAACUAUCACAUAGGAUAUUCUUUUCAUGAUCCACAUGCAUGCAAAGUUGACGCUCUUCAAAAAUAGUCGGAUUAUCAUCAACUAAAGUCAUGAUUUCUCCAAACCCACUUUCAAUGAUAUUGCAAAUAUCAUAUUCAUCAUGAGGCUUAAACAAAUUUUCAAGAUCAUAAGAAAAAUCAUCGCCCCACUCAUGAUCAUUGCAACAAGUAGGGAGMCGMUUAUAUAGAGUGCACUAUGUCCCAUGACAAUUGCCAUUACAAGGGUUUAAAUAUGUCUAANNNNNNNNNNNNNNNNNNNNNNNNNNNNNNNNNNNNNNNNNNNNNNNNNNNNNNNNNNNNNNNNNNNNNNNNNNNNNNNNNNNNNNNNNNNNNNNNNNNNGGAUUCAAAUAAGUUUAAAAAAAAUAGAAAUACCCUUUGUAAGAGAUGAGUUCUCGUUCGAAACCCUGCUACUUCGAGAGAGAUUGUCAGUGUUGUACACGAACUGCAUCCAGCUUUUGUCGUAGCCCUCUCAACUUUCUAACACAUGCUAUGUGGGUUAAAUUAUGAUAGCAUGCCAACUUUCAACAUUUUCAGAGUUCAUUUGUAGUGCUUUUCAAUUUCAGGGUCAACUAGCUCAAAAAAAAGUAAAUGCACGAAAUAUACCAAAUGAAGUCAGAAAUUGUUGAAAUUUUGUGAUGUGCCUUUGAAUGGUGCAUUUUGAACACACAAAAAGUAUGGAGUUCAAAUAAGUUUAAAAAAUAUGAAAUCCCUUUGUUAAGAGAUGAGUUCUCGUUCGAAACCCUGCUACUUCGAGAGAGAUUGUCAGUUUUGUACACGAACUGCAUCCAGUUUUUUUCGUAGCCCUCUCAACUUUUUUAACACAUGCUAUGUGGGUGAAAUGAUGAUAGCAUGUCAACUUUCAACAUUUUCAGAGUUCAUUUGUAGUGCUUUUCAAUUUCAGGGUCAACUAGCUCAMAAAAAAAUAAGUAAAUGCACGAAAUAUACCAAAUGAAGUGAGAAAUUAUUNNNNNNNNNNNNNNNNNNNNNNNNNNNNNNNNNNNNNNNNNNNNNNNNNNNNNNNNNNNNNNNNNNNNNNNNNNNNNNNNNNNNNNNNNNNNNNNNNNNNAAAUGAAGGGCGGGGAGGAGAUGAAAUUUGUACUGACCCACGAAUGGCAGGGGCGGAGCUCGUACAACGCACGGGCAGGUCUUCGCACAGCAGACCUCACAGCGACGAGACAACUACCACAUGUAAAUCCACCCGAUCAACGCAAAUAUUCCAAUUAUGUCAUUUUAGAGGAAAACAAGCUAAGUAUAUAAUAUUCAUGAGCUAACCAAGGUUCUUAUGCCAUUUUGAGCUUAUUAUGGUAUUUUCGAGGUAAAUGGGCUCAUUAUGUCAUUGUUGGGUUAAUUAAAGCAAGGAUAAUAUGAAAGAGGAGAAGAAAGAGGAGGAGGAGGAGAAGAAGAAGAAAUCAAGAAGAAGGAGGAGAAGGAGGGGGAGGAGAAGGACUAGAAGGUCCUUGGCCUUCUCCUCCUCCUCCUCCUCCUCCUUCUCCUUCUUCUCUUCUUCUUCUCUUCUUCUUCUUCUUCUUUCUUUUCAUUUUGCCUAUUUCUUCUCGUCUUCUCCUCUUGUUGGAGCUAAAUUACCUAAUUAUGUCUUUUUUGAGCUAAAUGGGCUAAUUAUCCCAUUUUAGAGGAAAACAAGCUAAGUAUAUAAUAUUAAUGAGCUAACCAAGGUUCUUAUGCCAUUUUGAGCUUAUUAUGGUAUUUUGGAGCUAAAUGGGCUAAUUAUGUCAUUGUUGGGUUAAUUAAAGCAAGGAUAAUAUGAAAGAGGAGAAGAAAGAGGAGGAGGAGGAGAAGAAAAGAASAGGAAGRAGGAGRAGGAGAGGAGAAGGAGGAGGAGGAGAAGGAUAGAAKSUSCUUGGCCUUCUCCUCCUCCUCCUCCUCCUUCUCCUUCUUCUCUUCUUCUUCUUCUUCUUCUUCUUCUUUCUUUUCUAUUUUGCCUUAUUUCUUCUCCUCUUCUCCUCUUGUUGAGCUAAAUUGCUACGUGNNNNNNNNNNNNNNNNNNNNNNNNNNNNNNNNNNNNNNNNNNNNNNNNNNNNNNNNNNNNNNNNNNNNNNNNNNNNNNNNNNNNNNNNNNNNNNNNNNNNAAAUCCCUUUGUAAGAGAUGAGUUCUCGUUCGAAACCCUCCUACUUCGAGAGAGAUUGUCAGUUUUGUACACGAACUGCAUCCAGUUUUGUCGUAGCCCUCUCAACUUUUAACACAUGCUAUGUGGGUGAAAUGAUGAUAGCAUGUAAACUUUCAACAUUUUCAGAGUUCAUUUGUAGUGCUUUUCAAUUUCAGGGUCAACUAGCUACAAAAAAAAAUAGUAAAUGCACGAAAUAUACCAAAUGAAGUGAGAAAUUAUUGAAAUUUUGUGAUGUGCCUUUGAAUGGUACAUUUUGAACACACAAAAAGUAAUGGAGUUCAAAUAAGUUUAAAAAAAAUAGAAAUACCCUUUGUAAGAGAUGAGUUCUCUUUCGAAACCCUGCUACUUCGAGAGAGAUUGUCAGUUUUGUACACGAACUGCAUCCAGUUUUUCUCGUAGCCCUCUCAACUUUAUAACACAUGCUAUGUGGGUGAAAUGAUGAUAGCAUGCCAACUUUCAACAUUUUCAGAGUUCAUUUGUAGUGCUUUUCAAUUUCAGGGUCAACUAGCUACAAAAAAAAAUAAAWAUGCACGAAAUAUGCCAAAUNNNNNNNNNNNNNNNNNNNNNNNNNNNNNNNNNNNNNNNNNNNNNNNNNNNNNNNNNNNNNNNNNNNNNNNNNNNNNNNNNNNNNNNNNNNNNNNNNNNNCGCAUUUACUAUGGAUGACGCAAACUCUUAAGGAUUMWSGUAUKCAUGUGAAACAUGUUCCAUUGUUGCGUUAUAGUGGAAGUGCUAUUAAAAUUAGUUCAUAAUCCACUAAACAUUCACGAACUAAACAUAUUCAAGCGCGACAUCAUUUCAUUCGUGAUCAUGUUGGUAAAGGAGAUAUUAAUCUCAAGCAUGUUCGUACCAACAAACAAUUGGCUGAUAUCUUUACAAAACCACUUGAUGAGAAAGUGUUUUCCAUUUGAGGAGUGAGUUGACCAUCAUAUAUAGAUGCUUCAAACUCGAGCUAGACUCACUCGGAUGCAUGCAAGGGCAUGAGCUUACCUUAUUAUUUCAUGAUGCUAUUGAUGUGACACUAUCUUAUAUCUUGGAAAACUAUGCUCCCUUGUAUUGCAUCUAACCUUACUUUAGGUACUUGGAAGAAUUACAAUUCACAAGAUUUCCAUCAACUCACAUCAAACGCAAUCUUGUCAUGGCCAAGUAUCAACAACCCCUUCUUCGAAUAUNNNNNNNNNNNNNNNNNNNNNNNNNNNNNNNNNNNNNNNNNNNNNNNNNNNNNNNNNNNNNNNNNNNNNNNNNNNNNNNNNNNNNNNNNNNNNNNNNNNNCUCACCACGCCAGAAUGAAACUUCCGACCGCGUCCUCAAAAAUACACCUUCUCAGGUUGCUAAAAUAACCAGAAAGAAUACUGGGCAUCCNCGAAACACUUUUCCGCCGCCGCAAGCUUCCGUUUCCGCGAGAUCUCAUCUGGAGACCCUUCCCAGUGCCCUGCCGGAGGGGACUUUGGAGUUGGAGGGCUUCUACAUCAACAUCAUCGCCUCUCCAAUGACUCGUGAGUAGUCCACUUCAGACCUACGGGUCCGUAGUUAGUAGCUAGAUGGCUUUUUCUCUCUCUUGGAUCUACAAUACAAUGUUUUCCAUGAUCUUCAUGGAGAUCUAUCCGAUGUAAUCCUCUUUGGCGGUGUGUUUGUCGAGAUCCGAUAAAUUGUGGAUUUGUGGUCAGAUUAUCUAUGAAUUAUAUUUGAGUCUUUGCUGAUUUCUUAUAUGCAUGAUUUGAUAUCCUUGUAAGUCUCUCCGAGUCUUGGGUUUUGUUUGGCCAACUAGAUCUAUGAUUCUUGCAAUGGGAGAAGUGCUUGGUUUUGGGUUCAUACCGUGAGGUGACCUUUCCCAGUGAUAGAAGGGGCAGCAAGGCACACAKGGGAUWGKUGCCAUCAAGGGUAACAAGAUNNNNNNNNNNNNNNNNNNNNNNNNNNNNNNNNNNNNNNNNNNNNNNNNNNNNNNNNNNNNNNNNNNNNNNNNNNNNNNNNNNNNNNNNNNNNNNNNNNNNUUGUUGCAAUGAUCAAGAUUGGGGUAAUGAUUUUUCUUAUGAUCUUAAAAAAUUUGUUUAAGCCUCAUGAUGAAUAUGAUAUUUGCAAUAAUAUUGAAGGUGGGUUUGGAGAAGUCAUGACUUUAGUUGAUGAUAAUCCCACUAUUUUUGAUGAGCGUCAACUUUGCAUGUAUGUGGAUCAUGAAAAGAAUAUCCUAUGUGAUAGCUAUAUUGUUGAAUUUGAAUAUGAUCCCACAUGUAAUUAUUGUGAGAGAGGAAAAUAUGGUGGUAGAAAUUUUCAUACCACUAAAUCACCUCUUGUUUUGUUGAGAUUGAUAUUGUCUCUUUCUUCUUCCUUGCAUAUGGUAACUAUUGGUUGUCUUGACAAUUUAUUUUCCUAUAAAAUGCCUAUGCAUAGGAAGUAUGUUAGACUUAGAUGUUAUUUUCACAUGCUUUAUGAUGCUCUCGUUGUGCUUCAAUUCUUGUGUUUUGUGUGAGCAUCAUUGAAUUAUCAAUGCCUAGCUAAGGGCGUUAAACAAUAGCGCUUGUUGGGAGGCAACCCAAUGUAUUUAUCUUUGCUUUUUUUCUUUCUUGUUUUUUUUUUGUGUCCACACCGUCAUAAUUUUGUUAUGAUUGUUGUUUUUUUUUGUUUUCUUUUUUGUUGUUUGAGCCAAGUAAACCUUUAUGACUGGUUUUGGUGAUGUUGUUUGAUCUUNNNNNNNNNNNNNNNNNNNNNNNNNNNNNNNNNNNNNNNNNNNNNNNNNNNNNNNNNNNNNNNNNNNNNNNNNNNNNNNNNNNNNNNNNNNNNNNNNNNNUUCUGAUUAUGAACAAGGUGUUGUUGCUUGACAACUGGAUCACGUCAUUAGGAGAAUCAUGUGAUGGACUAGACCCAAACUAAUAGACGUAGCAUGUUGAUCGUGUCAUUUUUGUUGCUACUGUUUUCUGCGUGUCAAGUAUUUAUUCCUAUGACCAUGAGAUCAUAUAACUCACUGACACCGGAGGAAUGCUUUGUGUGUAUCAAAUGUCGCAACGUAACUGGGUNACUAUAAAGAUGCUCUACAGGUAUCUCCGAAGGUGUUCGUCGAGUUAGUAUGGAUCGAGAGUGGGAUUUGUCACUCCGUGUGACGGAGAGGUAUCUCGGGGCCCACUCGGUAAUACAACAUCACACACAAGCCUUGCAAGCAAUGUGACUUAGUGUAAGUUGCGGGAUCUUGUAUUACGGAACGAGUAAAGAGACUUGCCAGUAAACGAGAUUGAAAUAGGUAUGCGGAUACUGACGAUCGAAUCUCGGGCAAGUAACAUACCGAAGGACAAAGGGAAUGACAUACGGGAUUAUAUGAAUCCUUGGCACUGAGGUUCAAACGAUAAGAUCUUCGUAGAAUAUGUAGGAUCCAAUAUGGGCAUCCAGGUCCCGCUAUUGGAUAUUGACCGAGGAGUCACUCGGUUCAUGUCUACUUGGUUCUCGAACCCGCAGGGUCUGCACACUUNNNNNNNNNNNNNNNNNNNNNNNNNNNNNNNNNNNNNNNNNNNNNNNNNNNNNNNNNNNNNNNNNNNNNNNNNNNNNNNNNNNNNNNNNNNNNNNNNNNNGUAGUAUGUUGAUAGGACUAUGUAUUGGAGGGCAAGGGUGACAGAAGCUUCAUCCUAGCAUCGAAAUUGAUGCAUACGGGAUUGAAGGGGGAACAAUAUAUUUUAUUGCUAUGGUUGGGUUUUACCUUAAUGAACGUUAGUAGUUGCGGAUGCUUGCUAAUAGUUCCAAUCAUAAGUGCAUAGAAUUCCAAGUAAGGGAUGACAUGCUAGCAGUGGCCUCUCCCACAUAAAACUUGCUAUCGGUCUAGUAACGUAGUCAAUUGCUUAGGGACAAUUCCGCAACUCCUACCACCAAUUUUCCACACUUGUUAAACUAACGUAAUUGUUCUUAGCAGCCCCUAGUCUUUAUUUACGUGUUCUUUCUUUUCUUGCAAACCUAUCCUAUCACUCCUACAAAGUACUUCUAGUUUCAUACUUGUUCUAGGUAAAGCGAACGUAAAGUGUGCGUAGAGUUGUAUCGGUGGUCGAUAGAACUUGAGCGAAUAUGAUCCUACUUUAGCUCCUCGUUGGUUCGACACUCUUACUUAUCGGCUACGUCGNNNNNNNNNNNNNNNNNNNNNNNNNNNNNNNNNNNNNNNNNNNNNNNNNNNNNNNNNNNNNNNNNNNNNNNNNNNNNNNNNNNNNNNNNNNNNNNNNNNNAUCCCCAAGCUUAACUCCUGCUCGUCCUCGAGUAGGGAAGUGAUAAAGACCGAAUUUUUGAUGUGGAAUGCUACCUAACAUACUUGUCCUUUGUAACUUCUUUCAUGUGACAUGAAUGUUCAGAUCCAUGAGAUUCAAAACAAUAGUUUUCUAUUGACAUGAAAACAAUAAUACUUCAAGCAAACUAGCAAGGUAAUCAUGAACUUUCGAAAUAACAAGGCUAAAGAAAGUUAUCCCUACAAAAUCAUAUAGUCUGGCUAUGCUCCAUCAUCCCCACAUAAUGAAUUUAAAUCAUGCACAACCCCGGWAUUGGCCAAGUAAUUGUUUUCGCACUCUUUUACUUUCUCAAACUUUUUAUAACUAUCACGCAAUACAUCAGCGUGAGCCAUGGAUAUUGUACUAUAGGUGGAAUAGAGUGUGGUGGUGGUUGUGAGAGAAAAAGGAGGAGAUGGUCACAUUGACUCGGCGUAUACGAAAGGGCUAGUGGAGAUGACCCAUUAAUAGAUAUNNNNNNNNNNNNNNNNNNNNNNNNNNNNNNNNNNNNNNNNNNNNNNNNNNNNNNNNNNNNNNNNNNNNNNNNNNNNNNNNNNNNNNNNNNNNNNNNNNNNCACGUAGCUAUGAAAGAGGAGAAGAAAUAGGAGGAGGAGGAGAAGAAGAAAAAUCAAGAAGAAGGAGGUGAAGGAGAUGGAGGAGAAGGACUAGAAGGUCCUUGGCCUUCUCCUCCUCCUUCUCMUUCUUCUCUUCUUCWUCUUMUUCUUUCUUUUCAUUUUUCUUAUUUCUUCUCCUCUUCUCCUCUUCUCCUCUUCUUGGAGCUAAAUUACCUAAUUAUGUCUUUUUGGAGCUAAAUGGGCUAAUUAUCUCAUUUUAUAGGAAAACAAGCUAAGUAUAUAAUAUUCAUGAUCUAACCAAGGUUCUUAUGCCAUUUUGAGGUUAUUAUGGCAUUUUGGAGCUAAAUGAGCUAAUUAUGUCUUUUUGGGGAAAUUAAAGCAAGGAUAAUAUGAAAGAGGAGAAGAAAGAGGAGGAGGAGGAGAAGAAGAAGAAAUCAAGAAGAAGGAGGAAGAAAAAGGAGAAGGAGGAGGAGAUAAGGACUAGAAGGUCCUGGCCUUCUCCUCCUUCUCCUCCUACCUCCUCCUCCGCUCGUNNNNNNNNNNNNNNNNNNNNNNNNNNNNNNNNNNNNNNNNNNNNNNNNNNNNNNNNNNNNNNNNNNNNNNNNNNNNNNNNNNNNNNNNNNNNNNNNNNNNAGGAGACUAUUAAACGGAGUCCAAACGGAAUAAAACCUGCGGAAUGAUUUUUUCCAUAACAGAAGACACGCAGGAGACUUGAGAACCAGGGAAGGGGACCUCGGAGGAGGUCACAAGCCACCUAGGACCGACCUAGGGGGAGGGCGGGCCUAGCAGGCUUGUGGGCCCCCUGUGGUUCCCCUGCCCUAGUUCUUCCGCCUAUAAAUUCCAUAAAAAUCUGAAAACACGAAAGAGAGCCACGAAAAUACUUUUCCACCGCCGCAAGCUUCUCUCUCCGCAAGAUCCCAUCUGGGGAACGUUCUGGUGCCCUGCCGGAGGGGGAUUCGCACACUGAGGGCUUCUUCAUGAAAACCNUUGCCUCUCCGAUGAUGCGUGAGUAGUUCACCAUAGACCCUWCSGGUCCWUAGCUAGUAGCUAGAUGGCUUCUUCUCUCUCUURGAUMUUCAAUACAAAGUUCUCCAUGAUCUUCAUGGAGWUCUAUCCAAUGUAAUAUUCUUUUGCGGUGUGUUUGUCGAGAUUCGAUGAAUUGUGGAUUUAUGAUCAUAUUAUCUAUGAAUCUUAUUUGAGUUUCUUCUGAUCUCUUAUAUGCAUGAUUUCAUAUCCUUGUAAUUCUCUUCGAGUUGUGGGUUUUGUUUGGCCAACUAGAUCUAUGAUUCUUGCAAUGGGAGAAGUGCUUGGUUUUGGGUUCAUACCGUGCGGUGACCUUUCCCAGUGACAAAAGGGGCAGCAAGGCACACAGGGGAUAGGNNNNNNNNNNNNNNNNNNNNNNNNNNNNNNNNNNNNNNNNNNNNNNNNNNNNNNNNNNNNNNNNNNNNNNNNNNNNNNNNNNNNNNNNNNNNNNNNNNNNGCUUUUCAUGAACUUAGUACACUAGAUGCAUGCUGGAUAGCGGUCGAUGUGUGGAGUAAUAGUAGUAGAUGCAGAAAGUAUCGGUCUACUUGUCUCGAACGUGAUGCCUAUAGAUAUGAUCAUUGCCAUAGAUAACGUCAUGACUUUGCGCGGUUCUAUAAAUUGCUCGACAGUAAUUCGUUCACCCACCGUCUACUUGCUUUCAUGAGAGAAGCCACUAGUGAACACUACAGCCCCCCGGGUCUAUUCACAACUAUCGUUUCCACUUUUACUUUUACUUUGGUUUGUUUACUUUUUGCUUUCAGUUCUCACUUUGCAAACAAUCUAUAAGGGAUUGACAACCCCUUCAUAGCAUUGGGUGCAAGCUCUUUGUGUUUGUGCAGGUACUUGUGACUUGACGCGAUCCUCCUACKSKACKUGAUACCUUGGUUCUGAAACUGAGGGAACUACUUACCGCCGCUGUGCUACAUCACCCUUUCCUCUUCAAGGGAACAACAACGCAAGGCUCCAAGGCACGCNNNNNNNNNNNNNNNNNNNNNNNNNNNNNNNNNNNNNNNNNNNNNNNNNNNNNNNNNNNNNNNNNNNNNNNNNNNNNNNNNNNNNNNNNNNNNNNNNNNNAUCACACCAUAGGGUUAGUAUUAUGUUGAUAGGACUAUGUAUUGGAGGGGAAGGGUGAUAGAAGCUUCAGCCUAGCAUAGAAACUGAUGCAUGCGGGAUUGAAGGGGCCCAAUAUAUCUUAUUGCUAUGGUUGGGUUUUAACUUAUUGAACGUUAGUAGUUGCGGAUGCUUGCUAAUAGAUCCAAUCAUAAGUGCAUAGAAUUUCAAGUAAGGGAUGACAUGCUAGCAGUGGCCUCUCCCACAUAAAACUUGCUAUCAGUCUAGUAACCGUAGUCAAUUGCUUAGGGACAAUUUCCGCAACUCCUACCACCACUUUUCCACACUCGUUAAACUAACGUAAUUUUUUCUUAGCAGCCCCUAGUCUUUAUUUACGUGUUCUUUCUUUUCUUGCAAACCUAUCCUAUCACUCCUACAAAGUACUUCUAGUUUCAUACUUGUUCUAGGUAAAGCGAACGUAAAGUGUGCGUAGAGUUGUAUCGGUGGUCGAUAGAACUUGAGCGAAUAUUGAUCCUACCUUUAGCUCCUCGUUGGGUUCGACACUCUUACUUAUCGAGAAAGGCUACAAUUGAUCCCCUAUACUUGUGGGUUAUCAAGACCUUUGCUACGUGNNNNNNNNNNNNNNNNNNNNNNNNNNNNNNNNNNNNNNNNNNNNNNNNNNNNNNNNNNNNNNNNNNNNNNNNNNNNNNNNNNNNNNNNNNNNNNNNNNNNAUGCUUUUCAAUUUAAGGGUCAUGUAGCUCAAAAAAAUCAGUAAAUGCAUGAAAAAUACAAAAUGCAGUCAUAAAUUGUUCAAAAUUGAUGAUGUGGCUUUAAAUGGUGCAUUUUGAACACACAAAAAGUCUGGAGUUCAAAUAAGUUCAAAAAGAUGAAAUCCCUUUGUAAUAGAUGAGUUUUCAUGUGAAUCUGUGAUACUUCGAAAGAGAUUCUCCGUUUUGUACACGAAGUGCAUCCAGUUUUUGCCAUAACCCUCUCAACUAUUUAGCACAUGCUUUGUGGGUGAAAUGAUGAUACUAUGCCAAUUUUCAAUCUUUUCAGAGGUGAUUUGUAGUGCUUUUCAAUUUAAGGGUCAUUUAGCUCAAAAAAACAAUAAAUUUAUGAAAAAUACCAAAUGAAGUCAAAAAUUGUUGAAAAUUGAUGAUGUGGCUUUGAAUGGUGCAUUUUGAACACACAAAAAGUAUGGAGUUCAAAUAAUAUCAAUAAAAUGAAAUCCCUUUGUAACAGAUGAGUUUUCGUAUGAAACCCUCAUACUUCGAAAGAGAUUGUCCAUUUUGUACACAAAGUGCAUCCAGUUUUUGCGCAACCCUCUCAACUUUUUAGCACAUCCUAUGUCGGUGAAAUGAUGAUACCAUGCCAACUUUCAACCUUUUUAGAGUUUAUUUGUAGUGCUUUCCAAUUUAAGGGUCAUUUAGUCCAAAAUAUCAGUAAAUGCAUGAAAAAUAGCAAAUGAAGUCAGAAUUUGUUGAAAAUUGAUGAUGUGGCUUUGAAUGGUGCAUUUUGAGAAAUGUUGUGACCUAAAAGCAAAAAAGAAUCAACGAAAAACAAUAAGUAGGAACAAGAAAAAGUAAAGUAAAAAAUAAAACAAAAAACUAGAUUUAAAAAAAAUGCCACCUACUAGGCCACAACGGCGUGAAUACGACUAGAAACCCAUCCUCCUGGUUGGGCCAGGAUUCAGGCCCACACAAGGCCCAAUAGGCCCACAGGCAGUGACAGAUUAGGUCCGAAAGCUUGCAGUUGAGAGGAGCUCGACAGAUUGUGCGCAGCAGCGAUUAUAAACCACUCGCGAGCUCUCUCGGCAAGCGAGGUGGGACUAAAAAUUUAGACCCGGGCAACACCACACUUUGGUCCCGGUUGGUGCCUCCAACCGGGACCAAUACCACCCUUUCGUCCCGGUUGGAGCCACCAACCGAUACUAAAGGUCUCUUCUUCCCGCCCUUUUGGACUGCUGAAAAUUGACCUUUAGUCCCGGUUGGUGGCUCCAACCGGGACAAAAGGGUGGCAUUGGUGUCGGUUGGAGCUACCAACGGGGACCAAAGGUGUUCGCAUAUAUGGCGGGACUUACCAAAAUUUCUACCAACUCCCAUUUGCCCCGUUCUCUUCUCUCCUCACCGUCGUCGUUGCCGCCCCGAGCCCGUCGCCGCCGGCCCGCGCCUUCUCCACGAGCCCAUCGUCAUUGUCGCCAUCGCCCCGAGCCCGUUGUCACGCCGAGCCCGUCGUCGCCCCGAGCCCGUCACCGUCGUCGUCGCCCCCGAGCCUGUCGCCGUCGUCGUCAUCCCGAGCCCGUCAUCACCGUCACCCCCGAGGCCAUAAACGUCCCCGCUGCCGUCGCCCCCGAGCCCAUCGCCCCAAGCCAAUCGCCGUCGCCGUCACUGAUAACCCACAAGUAUAGGGGAUCAAUUGUAGCCUUUCUCGAUACGUAAGAGUGUUGAACCCAACGAGGAUCUAAAGGUAGGAUAAAUAUUCCCUCAAGUUCUAUCGACCACCGAUACAACUCUACGCACACUUCACGUUCGCUUUACCUAGAACAAGUAUGAAACUAGAAGUACUUUGUAGGAGUGAUAGGAUAGGUUUGCAAGAAAAGAAAGAACACGUAAAUAAAGACUAGGGGCUGCUAAGAAAAAAUUACGUUAGUUUAACGAGUGUGGAAAAGUGGUGGUAGGAGUUGCGGAAUUGUCCCUAAGCAAUUGACUACGUUACUAGACUGAUAGCAAGUUUUAUGUGGGAGAGGCCACUGCUAGCAUGUCAUCCCUUACUUGAAAUUCUAUGCACUUAUGAUUGGAUCUAUUAGCAAGCAUCCGCAACUACUAACGUUCAAUAAGUUAAAACCCAACCAUAGCAAUAAGAUAUAUUGGGCCCCCUUCAAUCCCGCAUGCAUCAGUUUCUAUGCUAGGCUGAAGCUUCUAUCACCCUUCCCCUCCAAUACAUAGUCCUAUCAACAUAAUACUAACCCUAUCGUGUGAUCCACGCGCGCGCUCAUAUGAUGGGCACCAAAGGACAGCAACAUAACCACAAGCAAAUCAAACCAAUCACACCAAUUCAUCAAUAACCGAUAGGACAACAAAAAUCUACUCAGACAUCAUAGGAUGGCAACACAUCAUCGGAUAAUAAUAUGAAGCACAAAGCACCAUGUUCAAGUAGAGGGUACAGCGGGUUGCGGGAGAGUGGACCGCUGAAUAUAGAUGGGGGAAGGAGAAGGAGGUGUUGGUGAAGAUGACGGACGUGUUGGUGUAGAUCGCUGUCACACGAUGAUGUCCCGGGCGGCGUUCCGGCACCGCCGGGAGAGAGGGGGAGGGAGCCCCCCUUCUUCUUCUUCUUCCUUGACCUCCUCCCUAGAUGGGAGAAGGGUUUCCCCUCUGGUCCAUGGUCUCCAUGGCGGCGGAGGGGCGAGAGCCCCUCCGAGAUUGGAUCUCUCUCUGUGUGUCCUUCUGUUUGUGCGCUCCCAGAUUCUGCCUUUCACCGUUUCUUAAAAUUCCCGGAGAUCCAUAACUCCAAGUGGGCUGAUUUUAACACGAUUUUCUUCCGGAUAUUAGCUUUCUUGCGGCGAAAGAAGGGCCCCAACCGCCUUAGGGAUUGGUCACAAGCCUGCCUGCCGUGCCCUAGGGGGCACCUCCUAGGCUUGUGACCCCCUCGGGCAUCGUUUUGCGUUGAUUCUUCUUCCCAAAAAUCAUAAAUAUUCCAUAAAAAAUCACCAUAGGUUUUUUAUUGUGUUUGGACUUCGUUUGGUAUGGAUAUUAUACGAAACAAAAAACAUGCAACAAACAGGAACUGGCACUGGGAACUGGAUCAAUAUUUUAGUCCCAAAAAUAGUAUAAAAAGUUGCCAAAAGUAUAUGUAAGUUGUAGAAUAUUGGCAUGAAACAAUCAAAAAUUAUAGAUACGACGGAGACGUAUCAGCAUCCCCAAGCUUAAUUUCUGCUCGUCCUCGAGUAUGUUGGAAUUAUGCCCUAGAGGCAAUAAUAAAUAUAGUUAUUAUUAUAAUUCCUGUAUCAAGAUAAUCGUUUAUUGUCCAUGCUAUAAUUGUAUUGAAUGAAGACUCAUCUACAUGUGUGCAUACAUAGACAAAACACCGUCCCUAGCAAGCCUCUAGUUGGCUAGCCAGUUGAUCAAAGAUAGUCAGUGUCUUCAGAUUAUGAACAAGGUGUUGUUGCUUGAUAACUGGAUCACGUCAUUAGGAGAAUCACGUGAUGGACUAGACCCAAACUAAUAGAUGUAGCAUGUUGAUCGUGUCAUUUUUGUUGCUACUGUUUUCUGCGUGUCAAGUAUUUAUUCCUAUGACCAUGAGAUCAUAUAACUCACUGACACCGGAGGAAUGCUUUGUGUGUAUCAAACGUCGCAACAUAACUGGGUGACUAUAAAGAUGCUCUACAGGUAUCUCCGAAGUUGUUAGUUGAGUUAGUAUGGAUCAAGACUGGGAUUUGUCACUCCGUGUGACGGAGAGGUAUCUCGGGGCCCACUCGGUAAUACAACAUCACACACAAGCCUUGCAAGCAAUGUAACUUAGUGUAAGUUGCGGGAUCUUGUAUUACGGAACGAGUAAAGAGACUUACCGGUAAAUGAGAUUGAAAUAGGUAUACGGAUACUGAUGAUCGAAUCUCGGGCAAGUAACAUACCGAAGGACAAAGGGAAUGACGUACGGGAUUAUAUGAAUCCUUGGCACUAAGGUUCAAACGAUAAGAUCUUCGUAGAAUAUGUAGGAUCCAAUAUGGGCAUCCAGGUCCCGCUAUUGGAUAUUGACCGAGGAGUCUCUCGGGUCAUGUCUACAUAGUUCUCGAACCCGCACGGUCUGCACACUUAAGGUUCGACGUUGUUUUAUGCGUAUUUGAGUUAUAUGGUUGGUUACCGAAUGUUGUUCGGAGUGCCGGAUGAGAUCACGAACGUCACGAGGGUUUCCGGAAUAGUCCGGAAACGAAGAUUGAUAUAUAGGAUGACCUCAUUUGAUUACCGAAAGGUUUUCGGAGUUACCGGGAAUGUACCGGGAAUGACGAAUGGGUUCCGGGAGUUCACCGGGGGNNNNNNNNNNNNNNNNNNNNNNNNNNNNNNNNNNNNNNNNNNNNNNNNNNNNNNNNNNNNNNNNNNNNNNNNNNNNNNNNNNNNNNNNNNNNNNNNNNNNCGAAUCUCGGGCAAGUAACAUACCGAAGGACAAAGGGAAUGACGUACGGGAUUAUAUGAAUCCUUGGCACUGAGGUUCAAACGAUAAGAUCUUCGUAGAAUAUGUAGGAUCCAAUAUGGGCAUCCAGGUCCCGCUAUUGGAUAUUGACCGAGGAGUCUCUCGGGUCAUGUCUACAUAGUUCUCGAACCCGCAGGGUCUGCACACUUAAGAUUCGACGUUAUUUUAUGCGUAUUUGAGUUAUAUGGUUGGUUACCGAAUGUUGUCCGGAGUCCCAGAUGAGAUCACGGACGUCACGAGGGUUUCCGGAAUAGUCCGGAAACAAAGAUUGAUAUAUAGGAUGACCUCAUUUGAUUACCGGAAGGUUUUCGGAGUUACCGGGAAUGUACCGGGAAUGACGAAUGGGUUCCGGGAGUUCACCGGGGGGGGGGGGGGCAACCCGCCCCGGGGAAGCCCAUAGGCCUUGAGGGUGGCACACCAGCCCUUAGUGGGCUGGUGGGACAGCCCAAAAGGGCUCUAUGCGCCAAGAAGAGAAAAUCANNNNNNNNNNNNNNNNNNNNNNNNNNNNNNNNNNNNNNNNNNNNNNNNNNNNNNNNNNNNNNNNNNNNNNNNNNNNNNNNNNNNNNNNNNNNNNNNNNNNGAGCUCCCGCUCCUUCUCCUUCUUCUUCUCCUUCUUCUCCUUCUUCUUCUCCUUCUUCUUCUUAUCCUUUUGUCCCCUUCUUCUUAUCCUCCUCCCUCUCCUCCUUCUUCUUCUCCUUUUUCCUCUUCCUUCCUUUCAUUUUCCUCUUUUUCUCUUCUUGUCCCCUUCUUCGGGCUAAAUUGGCUAAGAAUGCCUUUUUGGAGCUAAUUAUGUCAUUUCGAGGAUAAUUAGCUAAGUAUAGGUCAUUUUUUAUUAAAUAGGCCAUUUUGGAGCUAACUAAGCUAAUUAUGUCCUUUCGUAGGAUAAUUAGCCAAUUUAGCCUUUCUUGGAUAAGUCUAAGCUACGUAGAAGAAGAGAUAGAGAAGAAGAAGUAAAAUAAGGAGGAGGAGGAGGAGAAGAAGAAGGAAGAGGAGAAGAAGAAGAAAAGAAGAAGGAGAAGGAGAAGAAGAAGGAGAAGGAGAAGGAGGAAGAAGGGGAAGGAGGAGCUCCUUCUCCUUCUCCUCCUUCUUCUCCUUCUUCUUCUCCUCCUCCCUCUCCUCCUUCUUCUUCUCCUUUUUCCUCUUCCUUCCUUUCAUUUUCCUCUUUUUCUCUUCUUGUCCCCUUCUUCGGGCUAAAUUGGCUAAGAAUGCCUUUUUGGAGCUAAUUAUGUCAUUUCGAGGAUAAUUAGCUAAGUAUAGGUCAUUUUUUAUUAAAUAGGCCAUUUUGGAGCUAACUAAGCUAAUUAUGUCAUUUCGUAGGACAAUUAGCCAAUUUAGCCUUUCUUGGAUAAGUCUAAGCUACGUAGAAGAAGAGAUAGAGAAGAAGAARUAAAAUAAGGAGGAGGAGGAGGAGGAGGAGGAGAAGAAGAAGGAGAAGAAGAAGAAAAUAAGAAGGAGAAGGAGGAAGAAGAAGGAGUAGGAGGAGCUCCUUCUCCUUCUCCUCCUUCUUCUCCUUCUUCUCCUUCUUCUUCUCCUCCUCCCUGUCCUCCUUCUUCUCCUUAUUUUUCCUCUUCCCUCCUUUCAUUUUUCCUCUUUUUCUCUUCUUGUCCCCUUCUUCGGGCUAAAUUGGCUAAGAAUGCCUUUUUGGAGCUAAUUAUGUCAUUUCGAGGAUAAUUAGCUAAGUAUAUGUAAUUUUUUAUUAAAUAGGCCAUUUUGGAGCUAACUAAGCUAAUUAUGUCAUUUCGUAGGAUAAUUAGCCAAUUUAGCCUUUCUUGGAUGAGUCUAAGCUACGUAGAAGAAGAGAUAGAGAAGAAGAAGUAAAAUAAGGAGGAGGAGGAGGAGGAGGAGAAGAAGAAGGAAGAGGAGAAGAAGAAGAAAAGAAGAAGGAGAAGAAGGAGAAGAAGAAGGAGAAGGAGAAGGAGGAAGAAGGAGGAAGAAGAAGGGGAAGGAGGAGCUCCUUCUCCUUCUUCUCCUUCUUCUCCUUCUUCUUCUCCUCCUCCCUCUCCUCCUUCUUCUUCUCCUCAUUUUUCCUCUUCCUUCCUUUCAUUUUCCUCUUUUUCUCUUCUUGUCCCCUUCUUCGGGCUAAAUUGGCUAAGAAUGCCUUUUUGGAGCUAAUUAUGUCAUUUCGAGGAUAAUUAGCUAAGUAUAGGUCAUUUUUUAUUAAAUAGGCCAUUUUGGAGCUAACUAAGCUAAUUAUGUCAUUUCGUAGGAUAAUUAGCCAAUUUAGCCUUUCUUGGAUGAGUCUAAGCUACGUAGAAGAAGAGAUAGAGAAGAAGAAGUAAAAUAAGGAGGAGGAGGAGGAGGAGGAGGAGAAGAAGAAGGAAGAGGAGAAGAAGAAGAAAAGAAGAAGGAGAAGGAGAAGGAGAAGGAGAAGGAGGAAGAAGGAGGAAGAAGAAGGGGAAGGAGGAGCUCCUUCUCCUUCUCCUCCUUCUUCUCCUUCUUCUUCUCCUCCUCCCUCUCCUCCUUCUUCUCCUCAUUUUUCCUCUUCCUUCCUUUCAUUUUCCUCUUUUUCUCUUCUUGUCCCCUUCUUCGAGCUAAAUUGGCUAAGAAUGCCUUUUUGGAGCUAAUUAUGUCAUUUCGAGGAUAAUUAGCUAAGUAUAGGACAUUUUUUAUUAAAUAGGACAUUUUGGAGCUAACUAAGCUAAUUAUGUCAUUUCGUAGGACAAUUGGCUAAUUUAGCCUUUCUUGGAUGAGUCUAAGCUACGUAGAAGAAGAGAUAGAGAGGAAGAAGUAAAAUAAGGAGGAGGAGGAGGAGGAGGAGGAGGAGGAGAAGAAGGAAGAGGAGAAGAAGAAGAAAAGAAGAAGGAGAAGGAGAAGAAGAAGGAGAAGGAGAAGGAGGAAGAAGAAGGAGUAGGAGGAGCUCCUUCUCCUUCUCCUCCUUCUUCUCCUUCUUCUCCUUCUUCUUCUCCUCCUCCCUCUCCUCCUUCUUCUCCUCAUUUUCCUCUUCCCUCCUUUCAUUUUCCUCUUUUCUCUUCUUGUCCCCUUCUUCGGGCUAAAUUGGCUAAGAAUGCCUUUUUGGAGCUAAUUAUGUCAUUUCGAGGAUAAUUAGCUAAGUAUAGGUCAUUUUUUAUUAAAUAGGCCAUUUUGGAGUUAACUAAGCCAAUUAUGUUAUUAGAUGGAAGUCUAGCUAUUUUGGGGCUAACUAAGCUAAUUAUGUCAUUAGAUGGAAGUCUAGCUAUUUUUUAUUAAAACACUAGAAAUAACAUACCUAAGUUAGGGUGAAGCACGGUGGCUCUGGCUUGUUUCACCUGGAGAAGGCUGCCCUGGAGAAGGCUCGACUGUAGAAGGGUCAUGCGAUGCGUUUCGGGACAUAUUCUGCACCAAACAUCGUUUGCAAUGUGUAGUUAGCAUGAGGACACUCUUAAGAUCACUCCACUGAAAUGAAACUCACCGUCCCCGCCACGUUAAUGACUGGCAUCGGCGGAGGGACUUGGCCGUUCUUCUCGCACAUAGACUGUACAUUUGGUUUCGACAAGUCAAACUUUUUAUUUAUUAAUGAAACGGACAUUCAAAUGCAAGAUUUGAAAUAACAUGAAGAAGAAACUUACCACGAAGAGCUCGUAUAUGGCCCUGGUAGACGCUUCAUUCCGUGCCCUCUCCGCCUCCACCAAUGCAGUCGUCCUCUCCUCCAGCUCCCUAAUUUCCUUAUCCUUCUCCGCCAUAGCCGCCUGCAUUGCCGCUCUCUCUUUCUGAAUAGCAGCCUGCAACACAACUCAUUGUUAGCAAUGUAAUCAUAUUGGUUCCAACGCACAACAUAAUGCGGAAAGAUUGUUCAGUCCAUUAAACUAACCUCGAUGGCGAGCUCGACUGGCCGUGGACGACGUGUUAUCUCCGGACAAGAGCUCGUUUGGCGUGCCUUUAUCUACCGGAGAGUGCUAGGACAACGUAUAAGGCCGUCUCCAAUGGCGAUCGAGCCAUGGGGCCUCCCGUUGCCAGCUAUCAUCACCAGCUCUGGAUCAAUUGGCCCCUCGCUCGGGUUAAAGUCCUCCCCUUUCCUCGCCUUCCCGUGAUCUCUGUACUUCACGAGCUUGUCGUGGGAGGAGAUGUUGGUGAAGUUUUCUGGAUGCUCGAGGUCAGACUCACAGAAUGCCUUGACCUUCUUGUACGAGGCAGUAUGGGCCAUCGCAUACAGGUCGUACAUCUGUGGCGCCUCCGUCUUAUUGUGACGCGCCUAAAAGAGAGAGAGCAGAAAAUUGUAUUGGUAAAGGGCUCAAGAUAGCAUUAAGAAUGAAUUGCAUGAGGCAUGAACCAAACCACAUACCCAGUUCUCGCCAAAUUGGAUUAAGUUGACGCUCCCUUGAUGGUGUGGCACGCCAACCAUUUUGCCACGCCUCUCCUUGGCGUUGUUGUGGCUGGUCUCCCACGUUUUGGAGCACCACUGGUCCACCAAGGCCUCCCAACAAUCCAUCUUAUCCACACACCAUCUAGGGGGCACCUAAGUUAAUAAAGAGAAAUUUGAGUGCGUAAGAACCAAAUCAAGGAAACUAACUACAAAGCCUUAAUAAUAUGUAAUUACCUUCAUGUAAUGCUCCUUCUCCAUCUUAGCAUCAUGGCACUUCGCCUUAUCAAUCCUAAUACGCCGCGUGGCAUAGUAGUCUCGAACAGCCUGCACCCGAGCCUCGUGCCGAAAGUUUUGAAGUAGGCGGCGACAUUCGGUUUCGAUAACCUUUGCCGCGUCGUCCUCGUAUCCCUCCUCACACCUGUAGAAGGUCUGCAAACGGGACAACACCGAUUAGUACAAUAAAUAGCUAUGGUUAAUUUAUAAUUGUGUGAAAGAGAAAUUACCCAGAACUUUCGGAUCACCAUGUCCGCCCUCGUGUCACACAAAACACCGUCGAUCUCCACCUCCGGCGGGGCCAGGGCACCCAAGUAGUGCUCCCAGGUCAUCCCUACCUCUCGCUCCCGACCGGGCAACGUAACAAACCCUGGGAAGUUUUGACGGCAAAGAACACCGAGGACGCUGUUGGGCUUGCGGACACCCUUGGCAACAAUCCAACCCCUACAGUAUGACAAAUUAAAGCCAAAACAUUAGAUAUUUGAGAAAACGCGAAGGCAAAAGGUUAAAUAAGAGUAAAUUAACUUACUUGUCCCCAUUUGGCCUAAUCGAGCACCUCUGCUCGGGGGUCGCUGGCACGAGCGGGAGCCCCGAACUACCACGCUGGUAGACGGUAUCCCCCUCACCCAGCUCCUCGUCGCUACCAGCAUGGCAGUUGGCUCUGGCCAGGGAUCCCACUGGGUCUCUUGGGACGUACCCUCAUCCCUGCUGUGCUCCGCAGUCGUGUGGAAGGAAGCCUCUGGGACACGAGUCUCGUGGGUCAAAGGCUCGUCGACCUGAGGCUCGUCGACCCGAGGCUCGUGAACCGGAGACCGUGUAGCCUCCACCUCAGACGAAUCCACCCUAGAAGUCCUCCUGUGCUCAGGUGAAUCAGCUUGGGGUGGUGGCGGAGACCGUGUAUCCCUACCUCUCCCGCGGCCACGUGUACCUUUAGUACAACAUAAAUACCAACAUGAGUAAUAAAAUGUAUAUAAAUACCAAUAUGCAUACAACAUGAGUACAACAUAAAUACCAACACGAAUACAACGUGUACCUUUAGUGCCUCUCGGCUUCGCGGGUGGUCGACCUCCUCUCACGGGGGCCGCUCCUUGCAUACUAGAGAGCAACACUCUCCGAAGAGGCGAGGCCGGAAUGGAAGUACCCAUCCCAUCACCCGCCGACGAAGAAGCAGCCGCGGCAUGCUUUCGACCCUUUCCCACCAUCUUUCAACACCUGUCAUGACAAAGAGUAAAUGAAAUUAGUACAACAUAAAUACCAACAUGACUAAUAAAAAUUGAAUACCUAACAUGAACUCAAAAUUUAUAUAUAGUAUAAUAGUUGAAUACCUGACAUGAACUAAUAACAAUCGUCCUCGUCUAUAUAUGCUUCGGGGUCAAUAAAUGCAUCAUGAUCAUCACUAUCAUCAAUAAAUGCAUCAUCAUCAUCACUAUCUAGAAGAACAUGUGGAAGGCCACCAUUAUGUAAUCGGUCAAGAAGUGACAGGUCAUCCGCAGCAGUAACCUCUUCUUCUUCCAGAUCUUCCUCUUCGGGCUCAGGGGUUAAGACGGAUUCACUGUCACUGUCUACUUCAAUGUUCUGGGGUGAAGUAGAGCGGUUCUUGAAACGUUUCUUGGACAUACGUGUUUCUUGGAAGAAUUCUCCUUCAUAUGUGUCUGGGUUAAUGUGAGGUUCGUAAUCCUCUUCAUUGAGGGUAGGUGGUCUAAAAUGUGGUGGCACAUCAUAAACGACAUCCCAACCUUUGAGAUUUGGAUCAAUUUGGCAGGCCCACGGUAGAUAGAAAACUUGUGUCGCCUGUUGAGACAUAAUAUAGACAUCGGGAACAUCUAAGUGGGUGUUUUGGUUGAUUUCGACUAGUCCUAUAUGUUCAUGAGUCCUUCUAGUCUCCCUCGGCUCAAACCAAUAACAUUUGAAGACUACGACGGUCGGUGGGUUUUCACCAUAGAAUAGAAGUUCAUAAAUUGCUUCAACCCUUCCAUAAUACUCGGUGUCUCCUUCGCCGAUAGCAGAGACAGAACAAUUUGUAGUCUUUAGGUCGGGCAUAGAUAGCUCUUUGCCAAAGGUACGAAAGUGAUACCCGUUGAUGUUGUAUUUGUCAAAUGAACGGACCUUAUAGUCAAAACCAUUAGCGACUUGUCUCAACUCGGCGUCCAUAGACUCUGCAUCAGCCUACAAGUUUAAUACGAAAGAAUGGAUGCAUUAGCCGCAAAUUAGACCAAUAAUUCAAAUGGUUUUGUACACGAACUGCAUCCAGUUUUUGUCGUAGCCCUUCACUUUACGANNNNNNNNNNNNNNNNNNNNNNNNNNNNNNNNNNNNNNNNNNNNNNNNNNNNNNNNNNNNNNNNNNNNNNNNNNNNNNNNNNNNNNNNNNNNNNNNNNNNCAAUUAAAAACUAUGUUUAUUAAAAAUUCUUUUUGCAUAUUUGAGAAUUUAACAAAACUAUGAUAAUGAAAAGUGUUUCAAAUUGAAUAAAUAAUGCAAAACUAUUUUUAUUUUCAUAAUUAAUAAUUUUGACUAUCCAAACUAUUAUCUAUUUUGUUAUUUUGACUUCAUUUGGUAUAUUUCGUGCAUGUACUUAUUUUUUUUGAGCUAGUUGACCCUGAAAUUGAAAAGCACUACAAAUGAACCACUACUGAAAUUCAGAAAUUUGCCGUCUGCCAAGGCGGACGGCAAAGGGGGCAACCAUGGACGGCAAAGGCUUUGCCGUCUGCCCCCUCAUGGCAAAGUAGAUGGUAAAAAAAAUCCGGUGAAGAGGCUCUUUGCCGUCUGCUUUCACAAAGCGGACGGCAAAGAAUCUUUGCCAUGAGGGGGAAGACGGCAAAAUAAGUGGGACGGCAUAUAUUGCAACGUCCCCGUUAAGUGUUAACGGCAGGCCUCCUCUCUUUGCCGUCUGCCUCCCCCCCUUUGCCAUGUGGGGGUAAACGGCAAAGAGGGAGAGAGAGGGGGCAGAUUCUCUCUUUGCCGUCUGCCUCCCCCCCUUUGCCAUGUGGGGGCAGACGGCAAAGAGGGGAGAGAGAGGGGGCAGAUUCCCCCUUUGCCGUCUGCCUCCACCCCUUUGCCAUGUGUUGGCAGACGGCAAAGAGGGGAACCAUCCCCUUUUUUAUUUAUUUUUUGUUAUAUCCAGCAUUUUUAACAAUAAUCAGGAUAUAUAUAUAUAUUUGACAUAAAUAAAUUUCUUUUCGUACCCAUAACCAUAUUAAAAUAACUCUCAUCCAUAGUGCAUACAUAUUAUGGAAGUUACAUUCGUACCAAACCUAAUAUUACACCAGUUUCAUCCACGUGCAUACAAAGUUUCAUAUAUUCAUAUACUACAACAGUUUCAAUACAACCCAUGGUACAAGAAAUCAUCUUCAAGCAUUCCAUCAACCAAGCUUCCCGUGAAGUGAAGGUAAUCUGCAAAAUGACAAAUAAGAAAGUUAGAAAAAUAAUACUAGAUGAAGUAGUGUAUAUAUAGGUUAUUUCGGAGAGAAAUUAGCUAAUUAUAGACCAUUUAGGAGCUAACUAAGCUAAUUAUGUCAUUUAGGUGGAACCCUAGCUAACUAUAGGAGAAGAGAAAGAGAAGAAGAAGUAAAAGAAGAAGGAGGAGGAGGAGAAGGAGAAGGAAGAGGAGAAGAAGAAGAAAAAGGAGGAGGAGGAGGAGGAGGAGAAGGAGAAGGAAGAGGAGAAGAAGAAGAAGGAGAAGAAGGAGAAGAAGAAGGAGAAGAGAGAGAGAGAGAGAGANNNNNNNNNNNNNNNNNNNNNNNNNNNNNNNNNNNNNNNNNNNNNNNNNNNNNNNNNNNNNNNNNNNNNNNNNNNNNNNNNNNNNNNNNNNNNNNNNNNNGGUGCAAGACUUUGAUGAUGCUCGGGAUUCGGAAGAUGAGAUGGAGGAAUCUGCAAAGGCCUUUUAUGAAAUGUUGGAGUCUUCAAAACGUCCUCUCCAUGAGCACACUGAGCUCUGUCAGCUGGAUGCAAUUGCACAAGUAAUGGCUCUGAAGGCUUAGUUCAACUUGGGAAGAGAAUGCUACGACGCGAUGAUGACACUAUUUGGACGUUUCCUACCCAAAGGCCAUGUCAUGCCUGCAAACCUGUACCAGUCGGAAAAAAUAUUUCGUUUACUUAAGAUGCACUAUGAGAAGAUACAUGCAUGUGAGAAAGGAUGUGUCUUAUUUAGGAAGGAGUAUCUACACUUGGACUAUUGUCCCAAUUGCGAGUCUUGCAGGUAUCUUGUGGUAGACAAACGGUAUGGGUGAGAAGAGGCAGACCAAAAUCGCAGUUAGUGUUCUUCGGUAUAUCACAAUCGUACCAAUACUUCAACGUCUUUUCAUGGUCGAAGAGACAGCCAGACAGAUGACAAGGCACAAAUUGGGCAAAAGAACCGAACUAGAUGCGGAUGGGAAUAAGAUGAUGGUACACACAUCGGAUGGGGAAGCGUGGAAACAUUUCGAUGGAUUGCAUCAAGAUAAAGCGACAGAUCCAAGGAAUCCUCGAGUCUGUGCCGCCACGGUCGGUUUUAAUCCCUUCGGCAUGACGACAACCCAAUACAGUUGUUGGCCUGUAUUUGUCAUUCCACUCAAUCUCCCCCCUAGGCAGAUUAUGCAAAGAAAGAUCAUAUUUCUGACGUUGAUAAUUCCAGGGCCCAAUUAUCCGGGGAAGAAUAUGAAUGUGUAUCUGCAACCGCUUAAGGAUGAAUUGGAAGAAGCUUGGGAUAAUGGGGUCAAGACAUACGAUGCCGCUAGAAAAAAAAACUUCAAAAUGCAUGUGUGGUACAUGUUGGGGAACGUCGCAUGGGAAACAAAAAAUUUCCUACGCGCACGAAGACAUAUCAUGGUGAUGUCCAUCUACGAGAGGGCAUAUUCGAUCUACGUACCCUUGUAUGAUUUCCAACAAGUCACUAGCACGCUCAAUUGUUCCGGAGAACGGAGUUUUAGUCAUCUUGCCCAUGAGGCAUGGUUCGCACGUGUCAAGUGAAUCAAAGUCAAGUGACUCCAAAAGUCCAUCGGCAUGGAGUUUCUUCAUGCGCUUUACACCAAUAUGACCUAAGCGGUAGUGCCACAAAAAUAUGGCGCUAUCAUUGUUAACUUUAACUCUUUUGGUCUCAAUGUUAUGUAUGUGUGUAUCACUAUCAAGAUUCAAUAUGAACAAUCCUCUCACAUUGGGUGCAUGACCAUAAAAGAUGUUACUCAUAGAAAUAGAACAACUAUUAUUCUCUGAAUUAAAAGAGUAACCGUCUCGCAAUAAACAAGAUCCAGAUAUAAUGUUCAUGCUCAACGCAGGCACUAAAUAACCAUGAUUCAAGUUCAUAACUAAUCCUGAUGGUAACUGAAGUGAAACUGUGCCGACGGCGAUUGCAUCAAACUUGGAACCAUUUCCUACGCGCAUCGUCACUUCAUCUUUCGCCAGCCUUCGUCUAUUCCGCAGUUCCUGUUUCGAGUUGCAAAUAUGAGCAACAGAACCGGUAUCGAAUACCCAGGCACUACUACGAGUGCCGGUUAAGUACACAUCAAUAACAUGUAUAUCAAAUAUACCUGAUUUUUCUUUGGCCGCCUUCUUAUCAGCCAGAUACUUGGGGCAGUUGCGCUUCUAGUGACCCAUACCCUUGCAAUAGUAACACUCUGUUUCAGGCUUAGGUCCAGCUUUGGGUUUCUUCAUCGGAUUGGCAACAGGCUUGCCGCUCUUCUUUGAAUUACCCGUCUUGCCUUUGCCGUUUCUCUUGAAACUAGUGGUCUUAUUCACCAUCAACACUUGAUGCUCUUUAUGGAGUUCAGACUCUGCGACUUUCAGCAUCGCAAACAACUCGCCGGGUGACUUGUUCAUCCCUUGCAUGUUGUAGUUCAACACAAAGCCUUUAUAGCUUGGCGGCAGUGACUGAAGGAUCCUGUCAGUGAUAGCCUCUUGCGGGAGUUCAAUCCCCAGCUCAGCUAGACGGUUUGAGUACCCAGACAUUUUGAGCACAUGUUCACUGACAGACGAAUUCUCCUCCAUCUUGCAAGCAUAGAAUUUAUCGAAGGUCUCAUACCUCUCGAUCCGGGCGUUCUUCUGAAAGAUAAACUUCAACUCCUGGGACAUCUCAUAUGCUCCAUGACUCUCAAAGCGAUGUUGAAGUCCCGGUUCUAAGCCAUACAAGACUGCACAUUGAACUACUGAGUAGUCCUCCUUACGUGUUAACCAAGCGUUCUUAACAUCCUAGUCAGCCGUAGCGGGUGGUUCAUCUCCUAGUGCAGCAUUAAGGACAUAAUCCUUCUUCCUAGCUUGUAAGAUUAGCUUAAGAUUACGAGCCCAGUCUACAAAGUUGCUUCCAUCAUCUUUCAACUUAGCUUUCUCUAGGAACGUAUUAAAAUUCAGGGUGACUGUCGCGUGAGCCAUGAUCUACAACACAAAUAUAUUCAUAGUGGACUUAGACUAUGUUCAAGACUAUAUUCAAAGUGGACUCAAAAAGUACAUAUCUCUAGUCAUUUGAGUGGUUCAUGAUCCACUUACACUAUCUCAAUACCGAUCAUCACGUGAGUUGAGUAUAGUUUCAGUGGUAAGCAUCCCUAUGCUAAUCAUAUCAUCUAUAUGAUUCAUGAUCGACCUUUCGGUCUCAUGUGUUCCGAGGCCAUGUCUGCAGAUGCUAGGCUCGUCAAGCUUAACCCGAGUGUUCCGCGUGUGCAACUGGUUUGCACCCGUUGUAUGUGAACGUUGAGUCUAUCACACCCGAUCAUCACGUGGUGUCUCGUAAUGACGAACUGUAGCAACGGUGCACAGUCUGGGAGAACACAAUUUCGUCUUGAAAGUUUAGUGAGAGAUCACCUCAUAAUGAUACCGUCGUUCUAAGCAAAAUAAGGUGCAUAAAAGGAUUAACAUCACAUGCAAUUCAUAAGUGACAUGAUAUGGCCAUCAUCACGUGCUCCUUGAUCUCCAUCAGCAAAGCACCGGCACGAUCUUCUUGUCACCGGCGCCACACCAUGAUCUCCAUCAACGUGUCACCAUCAGGGUUGUCGUGCUGCUCAUGCUAUUACUACUAAUGCUACAUCCUAGCAAAAUAGUAAACGCAUCUGCAAGCACAAACGUUAGUUUAAAGACAACCCUAUGGCUCCUGCCGGUUGCCGUACCAUCGACGUGCAAGUCGAUAUUAUCUAUUACAACAUGAUCAUCUCAUACAUCCAAUAUAUCACAUCACAUCGUUGGCCAUAUCACAUCACAAGCAUACCCUGCAAAAACAAGUUAGACGUCCUCUAAUUUUGUUGUUGCAUGUUUUACAUGGUGACCAUGGGUAUCUAGUAGGAUCGCAUCUUACUUACGCAAACACCACAACGGAGAUAUAUGAAUUGCUAUUUAACCUUAUACAAGGACCUCCUCGGUCAAAUCCGAUUCAACUAAAGUUGGAGAAACUGACACUUGCCAGUCAUCUUUGAGUAACGGGGUUACUCGUAGCGAUGAAACCAGUCUCUCGUAAGCGUACGAGUAAUGUCGGUCCAAGCCGCUUCGAUCCAACAAUACCGCGGAAUCAAGAAAAGACUAAGGAGGGCAGCAAAACGCACAUCACCGCCCACAAAAACUUUUGUGUUCUACUCGAGAAGACAUCUACGCAUGAACCUAGCUCAUGAUGCCACUGUUGGGUAACGUCGCAUGGGAAACAAAAAAUUUACUACGCGCACGAAGACCUAUCAUGGUGAUGUCCAUCUACGAGAGGGGAUAUUCGAUCUACGUACCCUUGUAGAUCGCACAGCUGAAGUGUUAGUGAACACGGUUGAUGUAGUGGAACGUCCUCAGGUCCCUCGAUCCGCCCCGCGAACCGCCCCGCGAUCAGUCCCACGAUCUAGUGCCGAACGGACCACCUCCGCGUUCAGCACACGUACAGCUCGACGAUGAUCUCGGCCUUCUUGAUCCAGCAAGAGAGACGGAGAGGUAGAUGAGUUCUCCGGCAGCGUGACGGUGCUCCGGAGGUUUGUGGUGAUCUUAUCUCAGCAGGGCUCCGCCCGAGCUCCGCAGAAACGCGAUCUAGAGGUAAAACCGUGGAGAUAUGUGGUCGGGCUGCCGUGGCAAAGUUGUCUCAAAUCAGCCCUAAAACCUCCGUAUAUAUAGGAGGAAGAGGGGGAGCCUUCCCUUGGGGUCCAAGGACCACCAAGGGGUUCGGCCGAGCCAAGGGGGGGGAGUCCUCCCCUUCCAAACCGAAUCCAACUAGGUUUGGAAGGAGGAGUCCUUCCCCUUUUUCCCACCUCCCUUUUUUUUCUCUUUGAUUUUCUUCCUAUGGCGCAUAGGGACUUCUUUGGCUGUCCCACCAGCCCACUAAGGGCUGGUGCGCCACCCCCAAGGCCUAUGGGCUUCCCCGGGGUGGGUUGCCCCCCCCGGUGAACAUCCGGAACCCAUUCGUCAUUCCCGGUACAUUCCCGGUAACUCCGAAAACCUUCCGGUAAUCAAAUGAGGUCAUCCUAUAUAUCAAUCUUCGUUUCCGGACCAUUCCGGAAACCCUCGUGACGUCCGUGAUCUCAUCCGGGACUCCGAACAACAUUCGGUAACCAACCAUAUAACUCAAAUACGCAUAAAACAACGUCGAACCUUAAGUGUGCAGACCCUGCGGGUUCGAGAACCAAGUAGACAUGAACCGAGUGACUCCUCGGUCAAUAUCCAAUAGCGGGACCUGGAUGCCCAUAUUGGAUCCUACAUAUUCUACGAAGAUCUUAUCGUUUGAACCUCAGUGCCAAGGAUUCAUAUAAUCCCGUAUGUCAUUCCCUUUGUCCUUCGGUAUGUUACUUGCCCGAGAUUCGAUCGUCAGUAUCCGCAUACCUAUUUCAAUCUCGUUUACUGGCAAGUCUCUUUACUCGUUCCGUAAUACAAGAUCCCGCAACUUACACUAAGUCACAUUGCUUGCAAGGCUUGUGUGUGAUGUUGUAUUACCGAGUGGGCCCCGAGAUACCUCUCCGUCACACGGAGUGACAAAUCCCACUCUCGAUCCAUACUAACUCGACGAACACCUUCGGAGAUACCUGUAGAGCAUCUUUAUAGUCACCCAGUUACGUUGCGACAUUUGAUACACACAAAGCAUUCCUCCGGUGUCAGUGAGUUAUAUGAUCUCAUGGUCAUAGGAACAAAUACUUGACACGCAGAAAACAGUAGCACUAAAAUGACACGAUCAAUAUGCUACGUCUAUUAGUUUGGGCUAGUCCAUCACGUGAUUCUCCUAAUGACAUGAUCCAGUUAUCAAGCAACAACGCUUUGUUCAUAAUCAGAAGACCCUGACUAUCUUUGAUCAACUGGCUAGCCAACUAGAGGCUUGCUAGGGACAGUGUUUUGUCUAUGUAUCCACACAUGUAUAUAAGUCUUCAUUCAAUACAAUUAUAGCAUGGAUAAUAAACGAUUAUCUUGAUACAGGAAUUAUAAUAAUAACUAUAUUUAUUAUGGCCUCUAGGGCAUAAUUCCAACAGUACAUGUACUCUAUGCAUGACUUGCCAGCGUAUGCACUAUUCUCUCGAUGGUGUGUGCAUGGAAGGUUCCCGUGCCCCAAAUGCAAGGCAGCUCUUCAGUUUCAUUGGUUGCAGGAGGGUCGGAAGUAUUCUUGCUUUGACUUGCAUAGACAGUUCCUGGAUCCUGACCAUCAGUUCAGAAAAGACAAGAAGAACUUUAAUAAAGGUAAAGUUGUCAAGAACUUGGCACCACCUGCGUUCACAGGCCAACAGAUCUUGGAUGAGUUAAACGCCCUCGAGCCUGAUCCAGAGCGUCCAUGGUAUUUCAAGGGUUAUAAUUCAAAACACGCCUGGACUCACAAGCCAUGCUUCUGGGAUCUGCCUUACUUCAAAGACCUCCUUCUUCCACACAAUAUCGACAUGAUGCACACUGAAAAUAAUAUCGGAGAGGCUAUUUUUGGUACAUUGUUCGACAUAGAUGGGAAGACAAAGGAUAAUAUUAAGGCUAGAGUCGAUCAAGAGACACUAUGUCAUAGACCAUUACAAAACAUGCGAGAAGGCAAAGGAAAGCAGAAGUGGUCGAAGCCAAAGGCCUGGUUCAUUCAUGGAAGGCCAGCUAUGAGGGAAAUUAUCUUGUGGGUCAAAAUGCACUUGAUGUUCCCCGAUGGGUAUGCAGCGAAUCUAAAGAGGGGAGCGAGUCUUGAAAAAUUAAAAAUCUUUGGUCUCAAGAGUCAUGAUUGGCACAUAUGGCUAGAGCGGGUAAUACCGGUGAUGUUAUGUGGCUUUAUUCCCGAGGAUGAAUGGCUAGUACUGGCGGAGCUGAGCUAUUUCUUUCAUGUUCUUUGUGCGAAAGAAUUGUCGCCUGGCGUGGUAGAAGACAUGGAGGAGUUUGCACUGGAGUUGUUGUGCAAGUUAGAGAAGAUCUUUCCACCGGGCUUCUUUAAUCCAAUGCAGCAUUUGAUUUUACAUCUACUGACCGAGGCAAGAUUGGGUGGGCCCGUGCAAGAUCGUUGGUGCUAUGCAACUGAGAGGAUGCAGAAGACCCUUCGAGCUAAAUGUAAGAAUAAGCGUUGAAUUGAAGCAUCGAUGGCUGAGUCAUUCAUUACUGAGGAGGUGGCAAACUUUGUGACAGCACACUACGAAGCCAAAAAUCAUCAUCUGCAUAAUCCGAAGCCUCGGCACAAUGAUGCAGACCAUAAAAAAGGUGGGUCCAACCUCAGCCUAUUCAAAGGGAAGCUCGCACCAGUCGGUGCUUCGAAACCAAUAACGUUGGAUGUCGAAGAAUGGCGGAACAUUUCGUUGUAUAUCUUCAACAACCUACCAGAAGUGCGGCCGUACAUCGAGUGAGUUCUCGACACAUUUUCCCGUAACUUCUAAUUCAUUUGAACUGCUCUUAUUCCCGGAUAUUUCAAACAGCCCUUACAUCGUCAAAUUCUCGGAUGGAGCGGUGAUCGAAAAUGAUUCCGUCGAAGAUUAUGCGCUUCUGUCAAAGACAGGAGGCGGCUAUCCCGGUUUCAUCUCUUGGUUCAAACAAACGGUAAUUAUCAAUAAUGGACCAUUUCAUUCUUGGUCAACCUUGGUUAGCUCAUGAAUAUUAUAUACUUAGCUUGUUUUCCUCUAAAAUGAGAUAAUUAGCCCAUUUAGCUCCAAAAAAACAUAAUUACGUAAUUUAGCUCCAAGAAGAGGAGAAGAAAUAGGAAAAAUAARAAURAAGAAGAAGAAGAAGAAGAGAAGAAGGAGAAGGAGGAGGAGGAGGAGGAGGAGAAGGCCAAGGACCUUCUAGUCCUUCUCCUCCCCCUCCCUUCUCCUCCUUCUUCUUGAUUUCUUCUUCUUCUCCUCCUCCUCCUCUUUCUUCUCCUCUUUCAUAUUAUCCUUGCUUUAAUUAACCCAACAAUGACAUAAUGAGCCCAUUUACCUCGAAAAUACCAUAAUAAGCUCAAAAUGGCAUAAGAACCUUNNNNNNNNNNNNNNNNNNNNNNNNNNNNNNNNNNNNNNNNNNNNNNNNNNNNNNNNNNNNNNNNNNNNNNNNNNNNNNNNNNNNNNNNNNNNNNNNNNNNAGGAGGAGGCGAAGGACGUAGWASGUCCUUSGCCUUCUCCUCCUUCUCUUCCUCCUCCUCCUCCUCCUCCUCCUUCUCCUUCUUCUCUUCUUCUUCUUCUUCUUUGUUUUCAUUUUUCCUAUUUAUUCUCCUCUUAUUGGAGCUAAAUUACCUAAUUAUGUCUUUUUGGAGCUAAAUGGGCUAAUUAUCUCAUUUUAGAGGAAAACAAGCUAAGUAUACAAUAUUCAUGAGCUAACCAAGGUUCUUAUGCCAUUUUGAGAUUAUUAUGGCAUUUUGGAGCUAAAUGGGCUAAUUUUGUCUUUUUGGGGAAAUUAAAGAAAGGAUAAUAUGAAAGAGGAGAAGAAAUAGGAGGAGGAGGAGAAGAAGAAAAAUCAAGAAGAAGGAGGUGAAGGAGAUGGAGGAGAAGGACUAGAAGGUCCUUGGCCUUCUCCUCCUCCUUCUCCUUCUUCUCUUCUUCUUCUUAUUCUUUCUUUUCAUUUUUCCUAUUUCUUCUCCUCUUCUAGGAGCUAAAUUAGCUAACUAUGUCUUCUUGGAGCUAAAUGGGCUAAAUAUCUCAUAUUAGAGGAAAACAAGCUAAGUAUAUAAUAUUCAUGAGCUAACCAAGGUUCUUAUGCCAUUUUGACCUUAUUAUGGCAUUUUGGAGCUAAAUGGGCUAAUUAUGUCUUUUUGGGGAAAUUAAAGCAAGGAUAAUAUGAAAGGGGAGAAGAAAGAGGAGGAGGAGGAGAAGAAGAAGAAAUCAAGAAGAGGGAGGAUAAGAAGGAGAAGGAGGAGGAGGAUAAGGACUAGAAGGUCCUUGGCCUUCUCCUCCUUCUCCUCCUACUCCUCCUCCUUCUCAUUCUUCUCUUCUUCAUCUUCUUCUUUCUUUUCAUUUUUCUUAUUUCUUCUCCUCUUCUCCUCUUCUCCUCUUCUUGGAGCUAAAUUACCUAAUUAUGUCUUUUUGGAGCUAAAUGGGCUAAUUAUCUCAUUUUAUAGGAAAACAAGCUAAGUAUAUAAUAUUCAUGAUCUAACCAAGGUUCUUAUGCCAUUUUGAGGUUAUUAUGGCAUUUUGGAGCUAAAUGAGCUAAUUAUGUCUUUUUGGGGAAAUUAAAGCAAGGAUAAUAUGAAAGAGGAGAAGAAAGAGGAGGAGGAGGAGAAGAAGAAGAAAUCAAGAAGAAGGAGGAGAAAAAGGAGAAGGAGGAGGAGGAUAAGGACUAGAAGGUCCUUGGCCUUCUCCUCCUUCUCCUCCUACUCCUCCUCCUUCUCAUUCUUCUCUUCUUCUUCUUCUUCUUUAUUUUCAUUUUUCCUAUUUCUUCUCCUCUUCUUGGAGCUAAAUUACCUAAUUAUGUCUUUUUGGAGCUAAAUGGGCUAAUUAUCUCAUUUUAGAGGAAAACAAGCUAUGUAUAUAAUAUUCAUGACCUAACCAAUGUUCUUAUGCCAUUUUGAGGUUAUUUUGGCAUUUUGGAGCUAAAUGGGCUAAUUAUGUCUUUUUGGGGAAAUUAAAUCAAGGAUAAUAUGAAAGAGGAGAAGAAAGAGGAGGAGGAGGAGAAGAAGAAGAAGAGAAGGAGGAGAAGGAGGAGAAGGAGGAGGAGGUGAAGGACUAGAAGGUCCUUGGCCUUCUCCUCCUUCUCCUCCUCCUCCUUCUCCUUCUUCUCUUCUUCUUCUUCUUUCUUUUCAUUUUUCCUAUUUCUUCUCCUCUUCUCCUUUUGUUGGUGCUAAAUUACCUAAUUAUGUCUUUUUGGAGCUAAAUGGGCUAAUUAUCCCAUUUUAGAGGAAAACAAGCUAAGUAUAUAAUAUUCAUGAGCUAACCAAGGUUCUKAUGCCAUUUUKAGCUUAUUAUGGCAUUUUGGAGCUAAAUGGGUUAAUUAUGUCAUUGUUGGGGAAAUUAAAGCAAGGAUAAUAUGAAAUAGGAGAGGAAAGAGGAGGAGGAGGAGAAGAAAAAGAAAUCAAGAAGGAGGACAAGGAGGAGGAGAAGGACUAGAAGGUCCUUGGCCUUCUCCUCCUCCUCCUCCUUCUCCUUCCUCUCUUCUUCUUCUUCUUUCUUUCUUUUCAUUUUUCCUAUUUAUUGUUGGAGCUAAAUUACCUAAUUAUGUCUUUUUGGAGCUAAAUGGGUUAAUUAUCCCAUUUUAGAGGAAAACAAGCUAAGUAUAUAAUAUUCAUGAGCUAACCAAGGUUCUUAUGCUAUUUUGAGCUUAUUACGGUAUUUUGGAGCUAAAUGGGCUAAUUAUGUCAUUGUUGGGGAAAUUAAAGCAAGGAUAAUAUGAAAUAGGAGAAGAAAUAGGAGGCGGAGGAGAAGAAGAAGAAAUCAAGAAGGAGGAGAAGGAGGAGAAGGAGGAGGAGGAGAAGGAGUAGAAGGUCCUMGGCCUCUCCUCCUCCUCCUCCUCCUUCUCCUUCUUCUUCUUCUUCUUCUUCUUCUUCUUCUUCUUUCUUUUCAUUUUGCCUAUUUCUUCUCCUCUUCUCCUCUUGUUGGAGCUAAAUUACCUAAUUAUGUCUUUUUUGAGCUAAAUGGGCUAAUUAUCCCACUUUAGAGGAAAACAAGCUAAGUAUAUAAUAUUAAUGAGCUAACCAAGGUUCUUAUGCCAUUUUGAGCUUAUUAUGGUAUUUUGGAGCUAAAUGGACUAAUUAUGUCAUUGUUGGGGAAAUUAAAGCAAGGAUAAUAUGAAAGGGGAGAACAAACAGGAGGAGGAGGAUAAGAAGAAGAAAUCAAGGAGGAGAAGGAGGAGAAGGAGGAGAGAGGAGARGGASUAGAAGGUCCUUGGCCUUCUCCUCCUUCUCCUNNNNNNNNNNNNNNNNNNNNNNNNNNNNNNNNNNNNNNNNNNNNNNNNNNNNNNNNNNNNNNNNNNNNNNNNNNNNNNNNNNNNNNNNNNNNNNNNNNNNGCUCACCGUGGGGGUGGGUCGCCGCGGGGAGGGGAUCCCACGGGGAGGGGGUCGCCGGGGGGGGGUGGGCUCGCCGCGGGGAGGGGAUCUCGCGGGGAGGGGUCGCCGCCGUGGAGAGAGAGAGUGGUCGGGGUGAGAGAGAGAGAGAGACAGUGAGCGAGGGGGGUAACGGCCGUUAUAGGGCGGCCCCUUUGCCGUCCGCCCCCGACGGCAAAGGGCCGUAUGGCAGACGGCAAAGGCCCGCGGACGGCAAAGGCCGCCGGAUUUCGGACACGGCAGGCAUGGGACCCACGCGUCCCCUUUGCCGUCUGCCCUGGGGCUCUUUGCCGUCUGCUGGCAGACGGCAAAGGACCCACACAUGGAAAAUAGUAUUUUUGCCAUGUGUCAGUUCUUUGUCGUCUGUAUUGUGUCAACUGAUGGCAAAGAGGUUCUUUGCCGUCAGCCAGCAGACGGUAAAGAACUGGCUGACGGCAAAUUUCUGGAUUCCAGUAGUGAACUCUGAAAAUGUUGAAAGUUGGCAUGCUAUCAUCAAUUCACCCACAUAGCAUGUGUUAAAAAGUUGAGAGGGAUACGACCAAAACUGGAUGCUGUUCGUGUACAAAACUGACAAUCUCUCUCGAAGUAGCAGGGUUUCGAAAGAGAACUCAUCUCUUACAAAGGGAUUUCAUUUUUUUAAACUUAUUUGAACUCCAUACUUUUUAUCUGUUCAAAAUGCACCAUUCAAAGGCACAUCACAAAAUUCCAACAAUUUCUGACUUCAUUUCGUAUAUUUCGUGCAUUUACUUAAUUUUUUUUGAGCUAGUUGACCCUGAAAUUGAAAAGCACUACAAAUGAACUCUGAAAAUGUUGAAAGUUGGCAUGCUAUCAUCAUUUCACCCACAUAGCAUGUGUUAAAAAGUUGAGAGGGCUAUGACAAAAACUGGAUGCAGUUCGUUUACAAAACUAACAAUCUCUCUCGAAGUAGCAGGGUUUCGAACGAGAACUCAUCUCUUACAAAGGGAUUUCAUUUUUUUAAACUUAUUUAAGAAGUCAUGCUUAAUUAAGAAAAAAGACUUGUCAUUGUGACUUACUGUAUCCACUUCGAAGUCCUCAUCCAGCAUGAUGUUGAAGCGCUUAUCAUCAACUAGGUGAGGCACGUCGCACAAGCCGCGNNNNNNNNNNNNNNNNNNNNNNNNNNNNNNNNNNNNNNNNNNNNNNNNNNNNNNNNNNNNNNNNNNNNNNNNNNNNNNNNNNNNNNNNNNNNNNNNNNNNCUAUCAUCAUUUCACCCACAUAGCAUGUGUUAAAAAGUUGAGAGGGCUAUGACAAAAACUGGAUGCAGUUCGUUUACAAAACUAACAAUCUCUCUCGAAGUAGCAGGGUUUCGAACGAGAACUCAUCUCUUACAAAGGGAUUUCAUUUUUUUAAACUUAUUUGAACUCCAUACUUUUUGUGUGUUCAAAAUGCACCAUUCAAAGGCACAUCACAAAAUUUCAACAAUUUCUGACUUCAUUUGGUAUAUUUCGUGCAUUUACUUUUUUUUUGAGCUAGUUGACCCUGAAAUUGAAAAGCACUACAAAUGAACUCUGAAAAUGUUGAAAGUUGGCAUGCUAUCAUCAUUUCACCCACAUAGCAUGUGUUAAAAAGUUGAGAGGGCUACGAGAAAAACUGGAUGUAGUUCGUGUACAAAACUGACAAUCUCUCUCGAAGUAGCAGGGUUUCGAACGAGAACUCAUCUCUUACAAAGGGAUUUCAUUUUUUAAAACUUAUUUGAACUCCAUACUUUUUGUGUGUUCAAACUGCACCAUUCAAAGGCACAUCACAAAAUUUCAACAAUUUCUGACUUCAUUUGGUAUAUUUCGUGCAUUUACUUAUUUUUUUUGAGCUAGUUGACCCUGAAAUUGAAAAGCACUACAAAUGAACUCUGAAAAAUGUUGAAAGUUGGCAUGCUAUCAUCAUUUAACCCACAUAGCAUGUGUUAGAAAGUUGAGAGGGCUACGACAAAAACUGGAUGCAGUUCGUGUUCAAAACUGACAAUCUCUCUCGAAGUAGCAGGGUUUCGAACGAGAACUCAUCUCUUACAAAAGGAUUUCAUUUUUUUAAAACUUAUUUGAAAUCCAUAAUUUUUGUGUGUUCAAAAUGCACCAUUCAAAGGCACAACAGAAAAUUUCAACAAUUUCUGACUUCAUUUGGUAUAUUUCGUGCAUUUACUUAUUUUUUUGAGCUAGUUGACCCUGAAAUUGAAAAGCACUACAAAUGAACUGUGAAAAUGUUGAAAGUUGGCAUGCUAUCAUCAUUUCACCCACAUAGCAUGUGUUAAAAAGUUGAGAGGGCUACGAAAAAACUGGAUGCAGUUCGUGUACAAAACUGACAAUCUCUCUCGAAGUAGCAGGGUUUCGAAAGAGAACUCAUCUCUUACAAAGGGAUUUCAUUUUUUUUAAACUUAUUUGAACUCCAUACUUUUUAUCUGUUCAAAAUGCACCAUUCAAAGGCACAUCACAAAAUUCCAACAAUUUCUGACUUCAUUUCGUAUAUUUCGUGCAUUUACUUWWUUUUUUUUGAUCGUUAGUUACCGUACCCGUAAGUAAAGUUAAAGGAAAAACGACCUAACCUUAAAACUAAAGUACGUAAACCUUACGNNNNNNNNNNNNNNNNNNNNNNNNNNNNNNNNNNNNNNNNNNNNNNNNNNNNNNNNNNNNNNNNNNNNNNNNNNNNNNNNNNNNNNNNNNNNNNNNNNNNCGUUUACGUUUUUAGUUUUAUUUAUUAUUACUACUAACACUACUACUAUAUAUAUAUAUAUAUAUAUAUAUAUAUAUAUAUAUAUAUAUAUAUAUAUUUGACAUCACAUUUAUAUAAUUCACCAAACAUAUAUGAUAUAUAGUUCACCACACAUAUACUUGCCAACACAUAUAUAUAAUUCACCACACAUAUAUGAUAUACAUAUAAAUCAAUGUACAUCCCCAUAUAUCAAAAGAACCAACAUACAAAGUAAUUGCACUGUUUAUCCAUAUAUAUAUACAUAUAGUUCAACAUUGUUCAUCAACUCAAAUGAAAACUAGAUGAUAUACAUAUAAAGUUCAUCCAUCGACAUUGUUCAACUCCAUGAAUGCCAGCUUUCAUGCAUGUAGUAUAUCCAAUCUGCAAAAAUGUGAAUAAGAAAGUCAGAAAAAGAACAAAAUAUGAUGUUUUGAGGUAAUUAUGUCAUUUCUAGCGGAAAACAAGCUAAGAAUAUAAUAUUCAUGAGCUAACCAAGGUUCUUAUGCCAUUUUUAGCUUAUUAUGGCAUUUUGGAGCUAAAUGGGUUAAUUAUGUCAUUGUUGGGGAAAUUAAAGCAAGGAUAAUAUGAAAUAGGAGAGGAAAGAGGAGGAGGAGGAGAAGAAAAAGAAAUANNNNNNNNNNNNNNNNNNNNNNNNNNNNNNNNNNNNNNNNNNNNNNNNNNNNNNNNNNNNNNNNNNNNNNNNNNNNNNNNNNNNNNNNNNNNNNNNNNNNCAUACUAUAAUCAUUUAACCCACAUAGCAUGUGUUAAAAAGUUGAGAGGGCUACGACAAAAACUGGAUGCAGUUCGUGUACAAAACUGACAAUCUCUCUCGAAGUAGCAGGGUUUCGAACGAGAACUCAUCUCUUACAAAGGGAUUUCAUUUUUUUUAAACUUAUUUGAACUCCAUACUUUUUGUGUGUUCAAAAUGUACCAUUCAAAGGCACAUCACAAAAUUUCAAUAAUUUCUCACUUCAUUUGGUAUAUUUCGUGCAUUUACUUAUUUUUUUGAGCUAGUUGACCCUGAAAUUGAAAAGCACUACAAAUGAACUCUGAAAAUGUUGAAAGUUGGCAUGCUGUCAUCAUUUCACCCACAUAGCAUGUGUUAAAAAGUUGAAAGGGCUAUGACAAAAACUGGAUGCAGUUCAUGUAGAAAACUGACAAUCCCUCUCGAAGUAGCAGGGUUUCGAACGAGAACUCAUCUCUUACAAAGGGAUUUCAUUUUUUUAAACUUAUUUGAACUCCAUGCUUUUUGUGUGUUCAAAAUGCACCAUUCAAAGGCACAUCACAAAAUUUCAACAAUUUCUUACUUCAUUUUGUAUAUUUCGUGCAUUUACUUAUUUUUUUGAGCUAGUUGACCCUGAAAUUGAAAAGCACUACAAAUGAACUGUGAAAAUGUUGAAAGUUGGCAUGCUAUCAUCAUUUCACCCACAUAGCAUGUGUUAAAAAGUUGAGAGGGCUACGACAAAAACUGGAUGCAGUUCGUGUACAAAACUGACAAUCUCUCUCGAAGUAGCAGGGUUUCGAAUGAGAACUCAUCUCUUACAAAGGGAUUUCAUUUUUUUUAAACUUAUUUGAACUCCAUACUUUUUGUGUGUUCAAAAUGGACCAUUCAAAGGCACAUCACAAAAUUGCAACAAUUUCUGACUUCAUUUCGUAUAUUUCGUGCAUUUACUUAUUUUUUUUGAGCUAGUUGACCCUGAAAUUGAAAAGCACUACAAAUGUACUCUAAAAAUGUUGAAAGUUCACAUACUAUAAUCAUUUAACCCACAUAGCAUGUGUUAAAAAGUUGAGAGGGCUACGACAAAAACUGGAUGCAGUUCGUGUACAAAACUGACAAUCUCUCUCGAAGUAGGAGGGUUUCGAACGAGAACUCAUCUCUUACAAAGGGAUUUCAUUUUUUUAAACUUAUUUGAACUCCAUACUUUUUGUGUGUUCAAAAUGCACCAUUCAAAGGCACAUCAACAAAAUUUCAACAAUUUCUGACUUCAUUUGGUAUAUUUCGUGCAUUUACUUUUUUUUUGAGCUAGUUGACCCUGAAAUUGAAAAGCACUACAAAUGAACUCUGAAAAUGUUGAAAGUUGGCAUGCUAUCAUCAUUUCAGCCACAUAGCAUGUGUUAAAAAGUUGAGAGGGCUACGAGAAAAACUUGAUGCAGUUCGUGUACAAAACUGACAAUUUCUCUCGAAGUAGCAGGGUUUCGAACGAGAACUCAUCUCUUACAAAGGGAUUUCAUUUUUUUUAAACUUAUUUGAACUCCAUACUUUUUGUGUGUUAAAAAUGCACCAUUCAAAGGCACAUCAAAAAAUUUCAACAAUUUCUGACUUCAUUUGGUAUAUUUCGUGCAUUUACUUAUUUUUUUUGAGCUAGUUGACCCUGAAAUUGAAAAGCACUACAAAUGAACUCUGAAAAUGUUGAAAGUUGGCAUGCUGUCAUCAUUUCACCCACAUAGCAUGUGUUAAAAAGUUGAAAGGGCUAUGACAAAAACUGGAUGCAGUUCAUGUACAAAACUGACAAUCCCUCUCGAAGUAGCAGGGUUUCGAAUGAGAACUCAUCUCUUACAAAGGGAUUUCAUUUUUUUUAAACUUAUUUGAACUCCAUACUUUUUGUGUGUUCAAAAUGAACCAUUCAAAGGCACAUCACAAAAUUGCAACAAUUUCUGACUUCAUUUCGUAUAUUUCGUGCAUUUACUUAUUUUUUUUGAGCUAGUUGACCCUGAAAUUGAAAAGCACUACAAAUGUACUCUGAAAAUGUUGAAAGUUGGCAUACUAUAAUCAUUUAACCCACAUAGCAUGUGUUAAAAAGUUGAGAGGGCUACGACAAAAACUGGAUGCAGUUCGUGUACAAAACUAACAAUCUCUCUCGAAGUAGCAGGGUUUCGAACGAGAACUCAUCUCUUACAAAGGGAUUUCAUUUUUUUUAAACUUAUUUGAACUCCAUACUUUUUGUGUGUUCAAAAUGCACCAUUCAAAGGCACGUCACAAAAUUUCAAUAAUUUCUCACUUCAUUUGGUAUAUUUCGUGCAUUUACUUAUUUUUUUGAGCUAGUUGACCCUGAAAUUGAAAAGCACUACAAAUGAACUCUGAAAAUGUUGAAAGUUGGCAUGCUAUCAUCAUUUCACCCACAUAGCAUGUGUUAAAAAGUUGAGAGGGCUACAACGAAAACUUGAUGCAGUUCGUUUACAAAAUUAACAAUCUCUCUCGAAGUAGCAGGGUUUCGAACGAGAACUCAUCUCUUACAAAGGGAUUUCAUUUUUUUAAAACUUAUUUGAACUCCAUACUUUUGUGUGUUAAAAAGUGCACCAUUCAAAGGCACAUCAAAAAAUUUCAACAAUUUCUGACUUCAUUUGGUAUAUUUCGUGCAUUUACUUAUUUUUUUUGAGCUAGUUGACCCUGAAAUUGAAAAGCACUACAAAUGAACUCUGAAAAUGUUGAAAGUUGGCAUGCUGUCAUCAUUUCACCCACAUAGCAUGUGUUAAAAAGUUGAAAGGGCUAUGACAAAAAUUGGAUGCAGUUCAUGUACAAAACUGACAAUCCCUCUCGAAGUAGCAGGGUUUCGAACGAGAACUCAUCUCUUACAAAGGGAUUUCAUUUUUUUAAACUUAUUUGAACUCCAUACUUUUUUGUGUGUUCAAAAUGCACCAUUCAAAGGCGCAUCACAAAAUUUCAACAAUUUCUUACUUCAUUUUGUAUAUUUCGUGCAUUUACUUAUUUUUUUGAGCUAGUUGACCCUGAAAUUGAAAAGCACUACAAAUGAACUGUGAAAAUGUUGAAAGUUGGCAUGCUAUCAUCAUUUCACCCACAUAGCAUGUGUUAAAAAGUUGAGAGGGCUACGACAAAAACUGGAUGCAGUUCGUGUACAAAACUGACAAUCUCUCUCGAAGUAGCAGGGUUUCGAAAGAGAACUCAUCUCUUACAAAGGGAUUUCAUUUUUUUAAACUUAUUUGAACUCCAUACUUUUUGUGUGUUCAAAAUGCACCAUUCAAAGGCACAUCACAAAAUUCCAACAAUUUCUGACUUCAUUUCGUAUAUUUCGUAGCAUUUACUUAAUUUUUUUUGAGCUAGUUGACCCUGAAAUUGAAAAGCACUACAAAUGUACUCUGAAAAUGUUGAAAGUUGGCAUACUAUAGUCAUUUAACCCACAUAGCAUGUGUUAAAAAGUUGAGAGGGCUACGAAAAAAACUGGAUGCAGUUCGUGUACAAAACUGACAAUCUCUCUCGAAGUAGCAGGGUUUCGAACGAGAACUCAUCUCUUACAAAGGGAUUUCAUUUUUUUAAAACUUAUUUGAACUCCAUAAUUUUUGUGUGUUCAAAAUGCACCAUUCAAAGGCACAUCACAAAAUUUCAAUAAUUUCUCACUUCAUUUGGUAUAUUUCGUGCAUUUACUUAUUUUUUUUGAGCUAGUUGACCCUGAAAUUGAAAAGCACUACAAAUGAACUCUGAAAAUGUUGAAAGUUGCCAUGCUAUCAUCAUUUCACCCACAUAGCAUGUGUUAAAAAGUUGAGAGGGCUAUGACAAAAACUGGAUGCAGUUCGUUUACAAAACUAACAAUCUCUCUCGAAGUAGCAUGGUUUCGAACGAGAACUCAUCUCUUACAAAGGGAUUUCAUUUUUUUUAUACUUAUUUGAACUCCAUACUUUUUGUGUGUUCAAAAUGCACCAUUCAAAGGCACAUCACAAAAUUUCAACAAUUUCUGACUUCAUUUGGCAUAUUUCGUGCAUUUUAUUUUUUUUUGAGCUAGUUGACCCUGAAAUUGAAAAGCACUACAAAUGAACUCUGAAAAUGUUGAAAGUUGGCAUGCUAUCAUCAUUUCACCCACAUAGCAUGUGUUAUAAAGUUGAGAGGGCUACGAGAAAAACUGGAUGCAGUUCGUGUACAAAACUGACAAUCUCUCUCGAAGUAGCAGGGUUUCGAAAGAGAACUCAUCUCUUACAAAGGGAUUUCAUUUUUUUAAACUUAUUUGAACUCCAUACUUUUUGUGUGUUCAAAAUGCACCAUUCAAAGGCACAUCACAAAAUUGCAACAAUUUCUGACUUCAUUCGGUAUAUUUCGUGCAUUUACUUAAUUUUUUUUUGAGCUAGUUGACCCUGAAAUUGAAAAGCACUACAAAUGUACUCUGAAAAUGUUGAAAGUUGGCAUACUAUAGUCAUUUAACCCACAUAGCAUGUGUUAAAAAGUUGAGAGGGCUACGACAAAAACUGGAUGCAGUUCGUGUACAAAACUGACAAUCUCUCUCGAAGUAGGAGGGUUUCGAACGAGAACUCAUCUCUUACAAAGGGAUUUCAUUUUUUUAAAACUUAUUUGAACUCCAUAAUUUUUGUGUGUUCAAAAUGCACCAUUCAAAGGCACAUCACAAAAUUUCAAUAAUUUCUCACUUCAUUUGGUAUAUUUCGUGCAUUUACUUAUUUUUUUUGAGCUAGUUGACCCUGAAAUUGAAAAGCACUACAAAUGAACUCUGAAAAUGUUGAAAGUUGACAUGCUAUCAUCAUUUCACCCACAUAGCAUGUGUUAAAAAGUUGAGAGGGCUAUGACAAAAACUGGAUGCAGUUCGUUUACAAAACUAACNNNNNNNNNNNNNNNNNNNNNNNNNNNNNNNNNNNNNNNNNNNNNNNNNNNNNNNNNNNNNNNNNNNNNNNNNNNNNNNNNNNNNNNNNNNNNNNNNNNNCGUACGUACGUACGUACGUACGUCGUCGUACUCUCUCUCUCUCUCUCUCUCUCUCUCUCUCUCUCUCUCUNUNUNUCUUCUUCUUCUGUUCUUCUUCUUCUUCUUUCUUUUCAUUUUGCCUAUUUCUUCUCSKCUUCUCCUCWUGUUGGAGCUAAAUUACCUAAUUAUGUCUUUUUUGAGCUAAAUGGGCUAAUUAUCCCAUUUUAGAGGAAAACAAGCUAAGUAUAUAAUAUUAAUGAGCUAACCAAGGUUCUUAUGCCAUUUUGAGCUUAUUAUGGUAUUUUGGAGCUAAAUGGGCUAAUUAUGUCAUUGUUGGGUUAAUUAAAGCAAGGAUAAUAUGAAAGAGGAGAAGAAAGAGGAGGAGGAGGAGAAGAAAAAGAAAUCAGGAAGAAGGAGGAGGAGAGGAGAAGGAGGAGGAGGAGAAGGAUAGAAGGUCCUUGGCCUUCUCCUCCUCCUCCUCCUCCUUCUCCUUCUUCUCUUCUUCUUCUUCUUCUUCUUCUUUCUUUUCUAUUUUGCCUAUUUCUUCUCCUCUUCUCCUCUUGUUGGAGCUAAAUUACCUAAUUAUGUCUUUUUUGAGCUAAAUGGGCUAAUUAUCCCAUUUUAGAGGAAAACAAGCUUAGUAUAUAAUAUUCAUGAGCUAACCAAGGUUCUUAUGCCAUUUUGAGCUUAUUAUGGUAUUUUGGAGCUAAAUGGGCUAAUUAUGUCAUUGUUGGGUUAAUUAAAUCAAGGAUAAUAUGAAAGAGGAGAAGAAAAGAGGAGGAGGAGGAGAAGAAGAAGAAAUACAAGAAGGAGAGAGAGAGAGAGAGAGAGAGAGAGUACGUACGUACGUACGUACSUCYWCSUCGUCGUCUCUCUCUCUCUNNNNNNNNNNNNNNNNNNNNNNNNNNNNNNNNNNNNNNNNNNNNNNNNNNNNNNNNNNNNNNNNNNNNNNNNNNNNNNNNNNNNNNNNNNNNNNNNNNNNUUACAAAAGGAUUUCAUUUUUUUAAAACUUAUUUGAAAUCCAUAAUUUUUGUGUGUUCAAAAUGCACCAUUCAAAGGCACAACAGAAAAUUUCAACAAUUUCUGACUUCAUUUGGUAUAUUUCGUGCAUUUACUUAUUUUUUUGAGCUAGUUGACCCUGAAAUUGAAAAGCACUACAAAUGAACUGUGAAAAUGUUGAAAGUUGGCAUGCUAUCAUCAUUUCACCCACAUAGCAUGUGUUAAAAAGUUGAAAGGGCUACGACAAAAACUGGAUGCAGUUCGUGUACAAAACUGACAAUCUCUCUCGAAGUAGCAGGGUUUCGAAUGAGAACUCAUCUCUUACAAAGGGAUUUCAUUUUUUUAAACUUAUUUGAACUCCAUACUUUUUGUGUGUUCAAAAUGCACCAUUCAAAGGCACAUCACAAAAUUGCAACAAUUUCUGACUUCAUUUCGUAUAUUUCGUGCAUUUACUUAUUUUUUUUGAGCUAGUUGACCCUGAAAUUGAAAAGCACUACAAAUGUACUCUGAAAAUGUUGAAAGUUGGCAUACUAUAAUCAAUUAACCCACAUAGCAUGUGUUAAAAAGUUGAGAGGGCUACGACAAAAACUGGAUGCAGUUCGUGUACAAAACUGACAAUCUCUCUCGAAGUAGGAGGGUUUCGAACGAGAACUCAUCUCUUACAAAGGGAUUUCAUUUUUUUUAAACUUAUUUGAACUCCAUACUUUUUGUGUGUUCAAAAUGCACCAUUCAAAGGCACAUCACAAAAUUUCAACAAUUUCUGACUUCAUUUGGUAUAUUUCGUGCAUUUACUUUUUUUUUGAGCUANNNNNNNNNNNNNNNNNNNNNNNNNNNNNNNNNNNNNNNNNNNNNNNNNNNNNNNNNNNNNNNNNNNNNNNNNNNNNNNNNNNNNNNNNNNNNNNNNNNNUUUUGUACACGAACUGCAUCCAGUUUUUGUCGUAGCCUUCUCAACUUUUUAACACAUGCUAUGUGGGUGAAAUGACGAUAGCAUGCCAACUUUCAACAUUUUCAGAGUUCAUUUGUAGUGCUUUUCAAUUUCAGGGUCAACUAGCUCAAAAAAAAUACGUAAAUGCACGAAAUAUACAAAAUGAAGUAAGAAAUUGUUGAAAUUUUGUGAUGUGCCUUUGAAUGGUGCAUUUUGAACACACAAAAAGUAUGGAGUUCAAAUAAGUUUAAAAAAAUGAAAUCCCUUUGUAAGAGAUGAGUUCUCGUUCGAAACCCAGCUACUUCCAGAGGGAUUGUCAGUUUUGUACAUGAACUGCAUCCAGUUUUUUUCAUAGCCCUCUCAACUUUUUAACACAUGCUAUGUGGGUGAAAUGAUGACAGCAUGCCAACUUUCAACAUUUUCAGAGUUCAUUUGUAGUGCUUUUCAAUUUCAGGGUCAACUAGCUCAAAAAAAAUAAGUAAAUGCACGAAAUAUACCAAAUGAAGUCAGAAAUUGUUGAAAUUUUUUGAUGUGCCUUUGAAUGGUGCUAUUUUUAACACACAAAAAGUAUGGAGUUCAAAUAAGUUUAAAAAAAAUGAAAUCCCUUUGUAAGAGAUGAGUUCUCGUUCGAAACCCUGCUACUUCGAGAGAGAUUGUUAAUUUUGUAAACGAACUGCAUCAAGUUUUYKYWGUAGCCCUCUCAACUUUUUAACACAUGCUAUGUGGGUGAAAUGAUGAUAGCAUGCCAACUUUCAACAUUUUCACAGUUCAUUUGUAGUGCUUUUCAAUUUCAGGGUCAACUAGCUACAAAAAAAUAAGUAAAUGCACGAAAUAUACCAAAUGAAGUCAGAAAUUGUUGAAAAUUUUUGUGUAGUGUCGUUCCGUUUAGAAGUUGGGUCGACUUUAGGUUUACGAAACCACAAAACUAAACUGGAGUUCCGGGACUAGGUUAAAACAAGGACUNNNNNNNNNNNNNNNNNNNNNNNNNNNNNNNNNNNNNNNNNNNNNNNNNNNNNNNNNNNNNNNNNNNNNNNNNNNNNNNNNNNNNNNNNNNNNNNNNNNNGGGCUAAACGGACCAAAAACGUAGGUAGUGACUAGUCGUGUACAAACUGACAAUCUCUCUCGAAGUAGCAGGGUUUCGAAAGAGAACUCAUCUCUUACAAAGGGAUUUCAUUUUUUUAAAACUUAUUUGAACUCCAUAAUUUUUGUGUGUUCAAAAUGCACCAUUCAAAGGCACAUCACAAAAUUUCAAUAAUUUCUCACUUCAUUUGGUAUAUUUCGUGCAUUUACUUAUUUUUUUUUGAGCUAGUUGACCCUGAAAUUGAAAAGCACUACAAAUGAACUCUGAAAAUGUUGAAAGUUUACAUGCUAUCAUCAUUUCACCCACAUAGCAUGUGUUAAAAAGUUGAGAGGGCUAUGACAAAAACUGGAUGCAGUUCGUUUACAAAACUAACAAUCUCUCUCGAAGUAGCAUGGUUUCGAACGAGAACUCAUCUCUUACAAAGGGAUUUCAUUUUUUUAAACUUAUUUGAACUCCAUACUUUUUGUGUGUUAAAAAUGCACCAUUCAAAGGCACAUCACAAAAUUUCAACAAUUUCUGACUUCAUUUGGUAUAUUUCGUGCUAUUUAAUUUUUUUUUGAGCUAGUUGACCCUGAAAUUGAAAAGCACUACAAAUGAACUCUGAAAAUGUUGAAAGUUGGNNNNNNNNNNNNNNNNNNNNNNNNNNNNNNNNNNNNNNNNNNNNNNNNNNNNNNNNNNNNNNNNNNNNNNNNNNNNNNNNNNNNNNNNNNNNNNNNNNNNAUUUUUUUUGAGCUAGUUGACCCUGAAAUUGAAAAGCACUACAAAUGAACUCUGAAAAUGUUGAAAGUUGGCAUGCUAUCAUCAUUUCAGCCACAUAGCAUGUGUUAAAAAGUUGAGAGGGCUACGAGAAAAACUGGAUGCAGUUCGUGUACAAAACUGACAAUCUCUCUCGAAGUAGCAGGGUUUCGAACGAGAACUCAUCUCUUACAAAGGGAUUUCAUUUUUUAAAACUUAUUUGAACUCCAUACUUUUUGUGUGUUCAAACUGCACCAUUCAAAGGCACAUCACAAAAUUUCAACAAUUUCUGACUUCAUUUGGUAUAUUUCGUGCAUUUACUUAUUUUUUUUGAGCUAGUUGACCCUGAAAUUGAAAAGCACUACAAAUGAACUCUAAAAAUGUUGAAAGUUGGCAUGCUAUCAUAAUUUAACCCACAUAGCAUGUGUUAGAAAGUUGAGAGGGCUACGACAAAAGCUGGAUGCAGUUCGUGUACAACACUGACAAUCUCUCUCGAAGUAGCAGGGUUUCGAACGAGAACUCAUCUCUUACAAAGGGAUUUCAUUUUUUUUAAACUUAUUUGAAAUCCAUAAUUUUUGUGUGUUCAAAAUGCACCAUUCAAAGGCACAACACAAAAUUUCAACAAUUUCUGACUUCAUUUGGUAUAUUUCGUGCAUUUACUUAUUUUUUUGAGCUAGUUCACCCUGAAAUUGAAAAGCACUACAAAUGAACUCUGAAAAUGUUGAAAGUUGGCAUGCAAUCAUCAUUUCACCCACAUAGCAUGUGUUAAAAAGUUGAAAGGGCUACGACAAAAACUGGAUGCAGUUCGUGUACAAAACUGACAAUCUCUCUCGAAGUAGCAGGGUUUCGAAAGAGAACUCAUCUCUUACAAAGGGAUUUCAUUUUUUUAAACUUAUUUGAACUCCAUACUUUUUGUGUGUUCAAAAUGGCACCAUUCAAAGGCACAUCACAAAUUGCAACAAUUUCUGACUUCAUUUGGUUANNNNNNNNNNNNNNNNNNNNNNNNNNNNNNNNNNNNNNNNNNNNNNNNNNNNNNNNNNNNNNNNNNNNNNNNNNNNNNNNNNNNNNNNNNNNNNNNNNNNGCUCGACAAAAUCACGGUGAGUGCAUUUCUCUCUCUCUAGGUGUGCAACAAGGAAGAUUGUGGCACAACAAAAAUAAAAGACUCCUACGAUACAAGACGCUCCAAGCAAAACACAUAACAUGUGGUGAAUAAAAUAUAGCCCCCAAGUAACGUUCAUUACUGGAAAUCAGUUUUUUGCCGUGUGCCUAAUCUUUGCUGUCAGCUAGCUGAUGGCAAAGAGUGUCUUUGCCGUCAGCUCUCAGAAAGCAGAUGGCAAAGAACUGGAUGAUGGCAAAGAAGGUCUUUGCCAACAGUCAAUCCUUUGUUGUCUGCCGCAAACGACAAAGAAGGGGACAGGAGACGGCAAAGAAGCUCAUUCGGCCCGGGGAACCUUAGGUCAACCAACGCCCUUCUUUGUCGUCUGCUGGCGGACGGCAAAGAUGCCAGAGGCAGACGUCAAAGAGUAUAGACCCCUUUGCCGUCCGCCAGCAGACGACAAAGGUCCUGAAUCUACUCAAACGGCCGUCCCGCCCCCACCCCGGCCCUCUCUCUCUCUCAAACGGCCACUCUCUCUCUCUCCUCCCCCGACACCCAACGCCGCCACCGUCGCCCGGCCACCCCCGGCGCCCCCGGUUCCCCACAACCCUCCGGCNNNNNNNNNNNNNNNNNNNNNNNNNNNNNNNNNNNNNNNNNNNNNNNNNNNNNNNNNNNNNNNNNNNNNNNNNNNNNNNNNNNNNNNNNNNNNNNNNNNNAGGAGAAGAAGGAGGAGAAGGAGAAGGAGCUCCUCCUUCCCCUUCUUCCUCCUUCUCCUUCUCCUUCUUCUUCUCCUUCUCCUUCUUCUUUUCUUCUUCUUCUCCUCUUCCUUCUUCUCCUCCUCCUCCUCCUCCUCCUCCUCCUCCUUAUUUUACUUCUUCCUCUCUAUCUCUUCUUCUACGUAGCUUAGACUCAUCCAAGAAAGGCUAAAUUAGCCAAUUGUCCUACGAAAUGACAUAAUUAGCUUAGUUAGCUCCAAAAUGUCCUAUUUAAUAAAAAAUGUCCUAUACUUAGCUAAUUAUCCUCGAAAUGACAUAAUUAGCUCCAAAAAGGCAUUCUUAGCCAAUUUAGCUCGAAGAAGGGGACAAGAAGAGAAAAAGAGGAAAAUGAAAGGAAGGAAGAGGAAAAAUGAGGAGAAGAAGGAGGAGAGGGAGGAGGAGAAGAAGAAGGAGAAGAAGGAGGAGAAGGAGAAGGAGCUCCUCCUUCCCCUUCUUCUUCCUCCUUCUUCCUCCUUCUCCUUCUCCUUCUUCUUCUCCUUCUUCUCCUUCUUCUUUUCUUCUUCUUCUCCUCUUCCUUCUUCUNNNNNNNNNNNNNNNNNNNNNNNNNNNNNNNNNNNNNNNNNNNNNNNNNNNNNNNNNNNNNNNNNNNNNNNNNNNNNNNNNNNNNNNNNNNNNNNNNNNNAAAGACAGAAGAAAUAUAUUUAUAUAUAAUUUAGCAUUUAUAUUCAUCGGUUAAUCAGGUUCGCCAUUUUUAUUAUGUCCAGGCAACCUACAUGCUAAUAGGUAAAGAUAGGUCCUAAUCCCACCCGAGUAUGUGUAGAUUGGGUUCGUUUUCCCAUGCUCUGCUCCGGAUCCAAUGCAAAAUUUCGACAACACCUCCCCGCUGUUCUCCUGAUACACGUCUCCGCAAUAAACAGAGAGGAUGUGCAUCCAGAGAACAGCAGGGAGGCACUGAUGAAAUUCCGCAUCGGAUCCAGAGCACAUCAUACGGGAAAACGAACCCAAUCUACACAUGCUCGGGCUAUCCAUGGAUAAAGUUGGACAAUUCGAAAGGAUGGCGGUUAUAAAUAUGCAAAGACAUGCAUAUUUAUAGAUGUCGCCCUUUCGAACGGGAGACGCAUACUGGUCACGCAUACUGAUAAAUUAAUUGAAUUACCUAAAUCUAGAAAGUUUCAUCCGGAAACCGAGCCACAGUAAAUGAAGGGGCGGGGAGGAGAUGAAAUUUGUACUGACCCACGAAUGCAGGGGCGGAGCUCGUACAACGCACGGGCAGGUCUUCGCACAGCAGACCUCACAGCGACGAGACAACUACCACAUGUAAAUCCACCCGAUCAACGCAAAUAUUCCAAUUAUGUCAUUUUAGAGGAAAACAAGCUAAGUAUAUAAUAUUCAUGAGCUAACCNNNNNNNNNNUUGUCUUCGAUCCCGGUACCAUGCUCGUCCGUGCGACGACGGACCACCUCAGCUCUUGUGUGUUGUAUAGACUCACCAUGAAAUGUCCACACCGUAUAAUUAGGCUUAAAAUGAUGAGCUCAAUGUGACUAAGGAGUUAGUCACACGAUGACGUGCUACGGAACGAGUAAAGAGACUUACCGGUAACGAGAUUGAACAAGGUAUAGGUAUACCGACGAUCGAAUCUCGGGCAAGUUCUAUACCGACAGACAAAGGGAAUUGUAUACGGGAUUGAUUGAAUCCUUGACAUCGUGGUUCAUCCGAUGAGAUCAUCGUGGAGCAAGUGGCAGCCACCAUGGGUAUCCAGACCCCGCUGAUGGUUAUUGGCCGGAGAGGUGUCUCGGUCAUGUCUACCUGUCUCCCGAACUCGUAGGGUCUACACACAUAAGGUUCGAUGACGCUAGGGUUAUAGGGAAUUAUUAUACGAGGUUACCAAAAGUUGUUCGGAGUCCCGGAUGAGAUCCCGGACGUCACGAGGAGCUCCGGAGGUAAAGAUUGAUAUAUAGGAUGGAUGGUUUUGCACAUCGGAAAUGUUUCAGGAGUCACCGGUAAUGUACCGGGACCACCGGGACGACCGGAAAUGGUCCCGGGGGUCCACCGGGAGGGGCCACCAGCCCCAAGAGGUAGCAUGGGCCAAAAGAGGGAGGGCAACCAGCCCAAAGUGGGCUGGUGCACCUCCCACAAGGAGGCCCAAGGCGCAGGAGGUGGAGAGGGGGGAACCCUAGGCGCUGGUGGGCCUAAGGCCCACCUAGGGGUGCGCCACCUCUCCCCCUGCCCUGGCCACCGCACCUCCCAUCUGGGGGGGCUGCCGCACCACCUAGGGUGGGAACCCUAGGGGUGGCACCCCCUUCCCCUCCUCCUAUAUAUAGUGGGGGUUUUGGGGCUGUUUGACACACAGUUUCCCAUCUCCCUCGGUGCAGCCCUGCCCCCCUUCCUCCUCCUCUCCCACGGUGCUUGGCGAAGCCCUGCCGGGAGACCUCGUCUCUCCAUCGACACCACGCCGUCGUGCUGCCGGAGAUGUCACCCAACCUCUCCCUCCUCCUUGCUGGAUCAAGGUGCGGGAGACCUCACUGGGCUGCACAUGUGUUGAACGCGGAGGUGUCGUGGUUCAGCACUAGAUCGGAAUCAGACCGCAAUCUGAAUCGCCGCGAGUACGACUCCAUCAACCGCGUUCUAGCAACGCUUCCGCUUAGCGAUCUUCGAAUGAAUGAAGAUGCACUCACUCCUCUCUCGUUGCUGGUCUCUCCAUAGGAAGAUCUGAAUAUGUGUAGGAAUUUUUUUGAAUUUAUGCUACGUUACCCAACAAUAGCGUGGGGUGAAUAUUCGUGUGUGCUUGUUUGCUUUAUCACUAAGUAGAUUUAUUUGCUGUUCUAAGUUGUUCUCUAUCGUUAGUUAUGGAUAUGAAACACGAAAUGCCAAAAAAAUUAGGUGUACUUGCUACUCAUGGAGAUGGGGAACCUCCUAAAACCCUCGAUGCUCGUUGUGUGGAUAAUAUUAUGCAGUUCUUUAAUAAUCCUGAGAAAACCAUAUUAAAUUAUAUAAUGGGCUACACGUUCGAUCAACGUGAAUACUUUAGGUAUUAUCGCUUGACUCAAAAAGGGAAACUAUUAUGUGAUCAAAUUCAUAUGCUGAAAUGGUAUGCUUGGGAGCUAUGCUCGAGAUAUGAUAUUACUUGUUGCUCUACGAUGAAGGCUCAACACCUUCCCUUUUCUUAUAAAUUUAAUGCUAAUGAAACCUUGGCUUCUUAUGCUAAUGGUAUAUAUGAUUACUAUGAUGUGGAGCAAAUAGAAGAGUUUCUUUCUUUUAUGGGUGCUUAUGAAAUUGAAGCUCUGUUUAAAAGGUGUGAUGAUAAUGAUGAUCCUGCUUACCGAUCUGAAAAUUUGGUUAUGCUUCGUUAUUGUUAUACUCAUUAUGAAUACUGGUCGUCAACCCGUGCAUUUGCACGGGCUAGAUUAAUAACCUACAAUGGGAUGAAACUUCUGAGACUAUCUUUCAUUCAUUGGGGGUAAAGACAUAUCCUAAAUUUCUAUUGGAAAAAUUAUUCAAGUGUCAUCAUAGUUCAAAUUUAAUGCUUCAAAUAAUAGAAUGUCAAAGGACGCAUAUACUCAAAUAUUCUCUAUCCACAUAAAAAUUAAAUGAUUUAAUCUCCUCUAAUCUUGGUACAUAAUUCCUUCAACACAUUGGAUUUUUUUUCUUUUUGAAUUGUUCAUUCACUUGACAUCUAUUACCAUCAGUCUCUAGAGUAAUUUAGAAGUUUACUUUAGAUAUAUGAUGAAAGAGCCUCACAGAAUAAACAACAAAAAAAAUUAGGUCUUUUUAAAGAGAUGACGAAUACAGACACACAUGAGAGAACAUUUUCUAUUACUUUUGUUCUUGUUCCAUAAUUUUAUCAUAAAAGAACAAAAUCCUAGUCUCCAACUGAUAUAAUCAUGCAUUGAAAAAAUAGUCAUUGGGUUGAGCAUCUGUUAGAUGUUUCGAUGGUUGCUCUUUUGUGCAUCCCCUUGGCUUCCAUCAUAUCCUAACGUACUGAUCUAAACAUAUUCAAUUUUAUUAUAUUAGUAAUUUCCUAAAAAUAAUAAAAUACUAAUAAUACGUUAACAUAUAUGGGCUGUUUGAAUGGCAGCUGAUGCCCACCUUACCAAAAUACGGGGUUGACCACCAGCGUGGGUGUCUUUUGGUUGUCAACUAAAUUUUUUAACCUACGCCAAAAGAAUUGUCGCUACUUCAUUUCCUGCACCAAUGGGCUGUUCGUAGCGGCGAAUUUUAUGGCCAGUUUUUCGGCUCAGGCGCGAUUCGGCGUGGCUGGCCUAGGCACCAUCAAAAUGACCGGCCUAUAGACAAAAGUAAACUGUCUGUCUCUAUUUUUAAUUCACAUGAACUUUGACUAAUAUGGUAUAUACAAAAUAUUAUUUGAAUGCAUAUUUUAUUUAGCUAAAUACUGAUACAAUGUUUUAUUUAAUAAAACACUGAUAAAAUAUCGUAUUUACCGAGAUACUCCUUUAAUAUUUAACUAAAAUUGUAUUUAUCAAACCGAACAAACUGACACACAUGCCUCAUUAUCCAUUAUCUACCGUGAGUAGGUGGUUCCUACAAACUAACAUGCAUAUUAUUCCUACAUAUUACUUUGCCGAGUUGUCAUUUUCAAAACUCAACAAUUGCUAUUUAAAUGUUUGUCGAGUACCUGAUAAUAUGAACUUCGCAAAGUUGAUGGUUGUUGACCUCCGUCUAGCCGAGUGAUGUUUGCCGAGAACAGAAAUCGACAAACACAAUGCAUAGUUGUUUCUAGCUAGGACUUGCUAAGUGUGUUGGAAACUCACCGAAUUCGGCGAUUCCGGUCGUGAAAUGGCAUUAACAAAAAACCUUAUCACCAUCACGUCCCAAAAAUGAACUGUGUAAAAAUAAGUAGCUAUAUUUUUUAAUGAAGAUUGUUCUUAUAUACGUGUUUAGUUUUCUUGAUUGUAUGUAAUAUCGACCUUUAUACCAUGCAUGCAUGGUACACUUGAAUUCGGUUUCAUUUAGUCGGUGUAAGCUUUAUUCAUACAUGUACAUAGGUUUGGUCUACUUUGCAAUUAUCUGAUUAUGCCGCAAAAUCUCGAACAAAACAUGUUUAACAUAUUUGUCCUCUCAAAACCAAACAUGCGUUUAUCGUAUUUUUAAGAAAUAUUAAUUUACAAAAGGUAUAGUUCAUGGACUAAUGUCACAUGUAAUUUUUACUCAUUAACAAUGAAAAUUGAGUAUCCUAGCAACCAGAAAAGCAGUUUGAGCGAAGUAGUCAACUGUAACCUCUAAUGCAUUAGGCAAUGUAAAGUCUUGGCAGUCCUGGUGAGAUAUAUAAUUCAUGCAUCGGCCUAUUUCGCAAGGCGGGGUUGCCAUAGUUCCGCUGUAAUUCACUCUUGUUCAUCCAGAAAAGGUUAAUUAGAAUACCUUCAGUGUCACAAUCUGAUGCCUUUUGUCGAUAAGAUAAAAAAAUGUGUAGAUGCAAAGUGUAUUACAUGGAACACGAACAUUUUUUUCUUGCGUAUAAUAACCUGUGCCAAACAAUGUGCUACCCUGGAAAACAAUUGAUUGAUCCUCCUUCACAGAAAUUACAUAGAACAUAGAGAACAUACCUUAUUAAAAUUGAAUCCCUGUAGAAAAUAUAAUAUGUUUGGAACCUGAAAAAAAGUCGAGUCAGGUGAAAUUCUUAUAACACCCAUGAAAUCAGGCCCAAUAUCGAAUGCGAUAACAAAAUGCACAUAUAGGAUAAGCCGUCAAAAGCACAGUCCGAGUAUAAGAGGUCAUAAAAACAAACUGGAUUAAAAUGUAUAUUUUUUACUCUGCAUGCCCCAAACAGACAAUGAUCUAAUCAACCGAAUUGUAUAUUUUACUACAUGUCAGAGAUUAAGAAAAAGGGAGAGGGUCAAGGGAUAUUGGUGGUAUAAAAUAUGAGAAACUGAGACAAAAAGACAGCUGAUAUGUGCACUAAAAAUGUGAAACUUGUUUAAUUGAGUGAAUCUCCAUGCCCCCAAACAGGUAAAUAUCAUAGAGAGAUACAUGUUAAAAAUUCAUUACAAUUAAAUACACCAAAAAAUAUAUUAUACUACCCCAGAUCAAAACCAAACCAUUUGCUUAAUGGUUAGCUUAUCACCUCGUCAUUGGCUGCGAUGGUGCCACGGCCAAGAAGAGCUUACCAUAUGUACCCCGGCUAGAUAGGUUAGACAAUGCUAGAUUUCACACGCUGCAUGGAGAGAGAAGCAUUGUAUUAACCCAAUCCAAUGGCUGGCAGGGCGAUGUUUGAUAUAUUAUCCAGUGCAUAGUGAAAGGUCCUGCACUGGACCUCAUCACCCAAUUUUAUAUAGCGCGUGGAGGCAGCCAAUUAUAUAAUCAGCUCAUGAUGUUCAUCAUGUACAUGCAAAUCUCGCUUUCCUAUUUGCCGGUGGAUAUAACUUGCCGCGAUCUCUUCGUCAGCUGCAACACACACAGAGAGAGGGACAUGCUGAUGCCUAAUUGCAUCAGAAGGAAGAUACCAAGGCCAACGUGCCAUGGUGCAGAUAGAUUUAGAUGUGAUUUGCGGCUGGAUCUAACACGCCGUCGAUGAAAGGAAAGACAUGUUACUCUAACAUGCCUAUAUGCCCUUCCACCUAUGAUUGGCACCAGAUCGCCAUGAAAGAGGCGAUGAAGGCUUAGACCAACAACUCUUCGUUAGGGAUUAACUAAAGGCGAUUUCUUGAGAUAACGAUCUUGUUGGUAGGAAAAUAGAUGACGGCUUUUUUUUUGUUUUGGAAGAGGUCAAUCUGGUAGUCCUUCCACGGCAAGAGUCUAAUGGAAAUAAUUUAUGGUUUUAGAUUUUAUCUAUGAAUAAUUGAGGCUUACUUAACGUGGAGACUUGAGAAUGUCUUUGUUACGUGUAGGCUGGGUCAGGUUGGUAGUUUUUCCCACGGCAAUACUCUAGAGGCCGACCAGUUUUUUUAGUUAUUUUACUGCAAGAGCAAAAGAAAUAAUAUAUAUGUUUUUGCCUGGGACUAAUUAACAUGCGCGAUUGAAAAUAUCAGUUACGUGUAGGCUGGGUCAGUCAGGUAGGCUACUUUUUUCUACCGCAGUAGUAACAUAAAAUUAAAUGGUCUAGAAAAAUACUGACUUAGGAUGUUAUGAUUGGAUCUGCACCGUAAUAAUUCGGUCCCACAAGAUGAACGGCUCGUAAAAUCUAAUUAACGUGAGAAUUUUUAAGGAGUCUCUAAUUAGUAUAAGUAUAGAUAAUGCCCAUAUUUAUCGAUUUAUGGAGAAAUUCUACGAUGCCCAAGAAGAGACUAAUAUUUUGCAGGAAACUAUGGAAGAAGAAAAUGCUGAUACUGUGAGCUCAUUAGAUGAAAAAGAUGACGAGGAGAGCGAAGAACAAAAGGAGGAAGAGCGGACUAGCUACCCGUGCCCACCUUCUAAUAAGAAUAACUCUUCAACUCAUACAUUGUUUAAUUUCCCUUCGAAGGAUGAAUGCUAUGUUUAUUGCUAUGAUCCCUUGGAUUUGUUUGAAAUAUCCCUUUUUGAUGAACUUGAUGCUAGCUAUGAUUAUGGCCAUGAUGCCAAUAUGAAUGAUGCUUAUGAAGAUGAACUUGCUAUAGUUCCUUAUGUUAAACAUGAAAUUGUUGCUAUCGCACCCACUUAUGAUAGUCCUAUUAUCUUUUUGAACUCUCCCAACUACACUAUAUCGGAGAAGUUUGCUCUUAUUAGGGAUUACAUAGAUGGGUUGCCUUCUACUAUUACACAUGAUGAUUUUUAUGAAUAUAAUAUGGAUAUGCUUGCUGCUCCUACUUGCAAUUAUUAUGACAGAGGAACUACAUCUCCACCUCUCUAUGUUUCCAAAACAAUAAAUAGCAAGAAACUGCUUAUGCUAUGUAUUGGCCUUUACUUGAUGUGCAUGAAUUGUUCUUUUAUGACAUGCCAAUGCAUAGGAAGAGAGUCAGACUUCGUCAUUGCAUGAUAUAUGUUACCUUCUGCUCACUACUAAAUUACAAAUCAUUGUCAAUUGAAAUUGGCUUUGAUAUACCUUGGGAUCCGGGUGGAUCCAUUACUUGAGCACUUUAUGCCUAGCUUAAUGGCUUUAAAGAAAGCGCUGCCUGGGAGACAACCCGGAAGUUUUAGAGAGUCAUUUAUUUCUGUUGAGUGCUUUUAUAUAGUUUAAAAACAAAAAAAAUAUAGAGGGGAACUUAAAACUUUUUCAAAAAGAGAAGCGAUUGAAAGGUGAUGCAUUGUGGAAGUGAGGGUCGACCUUGAACACUUGUGUUCAUGCUCAUGGAAACAAUGUAGAAUUCUUCAUGGAAGUUUCUCGCACAAAUAAUUAUGCCUUUGUAAAUUUCCAUUGUAUUAUAAAAAUAAUGUGCCAAGUAAAGCCUUUAUGAUUAGUUUGGGUGAUAGUUGUUUGAUCAUGCUGAAAAAGACAGAAACUUUGUGCUCACAAAAUUAUUUUUAAUACCUAUCCACAAAGAGAUUUUGAGUUGAUUCUUUUUGCUGUUGAUUGAUAUGAAAAUUGCCCUAAUUUUCAUAAUUUUUCAGAAUUUUUGGAGUAUCAUAAGUAUGGCAUACGUUCAGAUUACUACAGACUGUUCUGUUUUUGACAGAUUCUGUUUUCUAUGCAUUGCUCUCUUAUUUUGAUGAAUCUAUGGGUAGUAUCGGGGGGUAUGAACCAUGGUGAAGUUGGAUUACAGUAGAUAUAAUUCUAAUAUGAAUUUGAAAUGAGUACACAACAGUACUUAAAGUGGUGAUUUACUUUAUUAUACUAACGGAUCUCACGAAGGUUUUGUUGAGUUUUGUGUGAUUGAAGUUUUCAAGUUUUGGGUGACACCACGAUGGAUGAAGGAAUAAGGAGAGGCAAGAGCCUAAGCUUGGGGAUGCCCGAGCAUCUAAGCUUGGGGAUGCCCCGGAAGGAAUCCCCUCUUUCGUCUACAAUCUAUCGGUAAUUUUACUCGGAGCUAUAUUUUUAUUCGUCACAUGAUAUGUGCAAAUGCUUGGAGCGUCUUUUGUGUUUAUUUUUCCUUUUUCUUUUAUGCACCAUGCUGGUAUGAGAUAGUCCUUGGUUGAUUUAUAGAAUGCUCUUUGCACUUCACUUAUAUCUUUCGAGUAUGGAUUUAUAGAAUGCUUAUGUGCUUCACUUAUAUCAUUUGAAGUUUGGAUUGCCUGUUUCCCUACACAUAGAAAACCGCCAUUUGUAGAAUGCUCUUUUGCUUCACUUAUAUUUUUUAGAGCGGGGCCUAUAUUUUGUAGAAAGAAUUAAAAUCUCAUGCUUCACUUAUACCUAUUUAGAGAGUUAACAGGAGUUGGUCAUUCACAUGGUUAGUCAUAAAAUCCUACAUAAACUUGUAGAUCACUGAAUAUGAUAUGUUUGAUUCCUUGCAAUAGUUUUGCGACAUGAAGAUGUGAUAUUAGAGUGAUGCUAGUGAAUAAUUGUGUAUUCAUAGAAAUACUUGUGUUAAGGUUUGUGAUUCCUGUAGCAUGCAGGUAUGGUGAACCGUUAUGUGACGAGGUCGGAGCAUGAUUUAUUUAUUGAUUGUCAUCCUUUGUGUGGAGGUCGGGACCGCGCGAUGGUUAACUCCUACCAACCCUUCCCCUAGGAGCAUGCGUGUAGUACCUUGUUUCGAUGACUAAUAGACUUUUGCAAUAAGUAUGUGAGUUCUUUAUGACUAAUGUUGAGUUCAUGGAUUAUACGCAAUCUCACCCUUCCACCAUUGCUAGCCUCUCUAGUACCGCGCAACUUUCGCCGGUGCAUUACACCCACCAUAUACCCUUCCUCAAAACAGCCACCAUACCUACCUAUUAUGGCAUUUCCAUAGCCAUUCUUAGAUAUAUUUCCAUGCAACUUCCAUCGUUCCAUUUAUUAUGACACGCACCAUCAUUGUCAUAUUGCUUUGCAUGAUCGUAAGAUAGCUAGCAUGAUGUUUUCAUGGCUUGUCCGUUUUUUGAUGUCAUUGCUACGCUAGAUCAUUGCACAUCCCGGUACACCGCCGGAGGCAUUCAUAUAGAGUCAUAUUUUGUUCUAAAUAUCGAGUUGUAAGUAAAUAAAAGUGUGAUGAUCAUCAUUAUUAGAGCAUUGUCCCAUGUGAGGAAGUAAAAAGAGGCCAAAGAAGCCCACCAAAAAAAAGAGAAAAAAAAUAAAAAAAUGAGAGAAAAGAGAGAAGGGACAAUGCUACUAUCCUUUACCACACUUGUGCUUCAAAGUAGCACCAUGAUCUUCAUGAUAGAGAUUCUCCUAUGUUGUCACUUUCAAAUACUAGUGAGAAAUUUUCAUUAUAGUACUUGGCUUGUAUAUUCCAAUGAUGGGCUUCCUAAAAUUGCCCUAGGUCUUCGUGAGCAAGCGAGUUGGAUGCACACCCACUAGUUUCAUUUUGAACUUUCAUACACUUCUAGCUCUUGUGCAUCUGUUGCAUGGCAAUCCCUACUCACUCACAUUGAUAUCUAUUGAUGGGCAUCUCCAUAGCCCGUUGAUAUGCCUAGUUGAUGUGAGACUAUCUCCUCCUUUUUGUCUUCCCCACAGCCACCAUAUUCUAUUCCAACUACAAUGCUAUGUCCAUGGCUCACGCUCAUGUAUUGCGUGAAAGUUGAAAAAGGUUUGAGAACACUAAAGUAUGAAACAAUUGCUUGGCUAAAACCGGGGUUGUGCAUGAUUUAAAUACGUUGUGUGGGGAAGAUGGAGCAUAACCAGACUUUAUGAUUUUGUAGGGAUAACUUUCUUUGACCACGAUAUUUUGAGAAGACAUGAUUCCUUUGUUAGUAUGCUUGAAAUAUUAUUAUCUUUAUGUCAAAUGGUAGGCUAUUGCUUCGAAUCACUCGUGUUUUAGUAUUCAUGCCAUGAUUAGAUUAUAUAAUCAACAUUAUGCUAGGUAGCAUUCCACAUCAAAAAUUAUCUUUUUUAUCAUUUACCUACUCUGUUGGGGAACGUCGCAUGGGAAACAAAAAUUUUCCUACGCGCACGAAGACCUAUCAUGGUGAUGUCCAUCUACGAGAGGGGAUGAGUGAUCUACGAACCCUUGUAGAUCGUAUAGCAGAAGCGUUAGUGAACGCGGUUGAUGUAGUGGAACGUCCUCACGUCCCUCGAUCCGCCCCGCGAACAAUCCCGCGAUCAGUCCCACGAUCUAGUACCGAACGGACGACACCUCCGCGUUCAGCACACGUACAGCUCGACGAUGAUCUCGGCCUUCUUGAUCCAGCAAGAGAGACGGAGAGGUAGAUGAGUUCUCCGGCAGCGUGACGGUGCUCCGGAGGUUUGUGGUGAUCUUAUCUCAGCAGGGCUCCGCCCGAGCUCCGCAGAAACGCGAUCUAGAGGUAAAACCGUGGAGAUAUGUGGUCGGGCUGCCGUGGCAAAGUUGUCUCAAAUCAGCCCUAAAACCUCCGUAUAUAUAGGAGGAAGAGGGGGAGCCUUCCCUUGGGGUCCAAGGACCACCAAGGGGUUCGGCCGAGCCAAGGGGGGGGAGUCCUCCCCUUCCAAACCGAAUCCAACUAGGUUUGGAAGGAGGAGUCCUUCCCCUUUUUCCCACCUCCCUUUUUUUUCUCUUUGAUUUUCUUCCUAUGGCGCAUAGGGACUUCUUUGGCUGUCCCACCAGCCCACUAAGGGCUGGUGCGCCACCCCCAAGGCCUAUGGGCUUCCCCGGGGUGGGUUGCCCCCCCCGGUGAACAUCCGGAACCCAUUCGUCAUUCCCGGUACAUUCCCGGUAACUCCGAAAACCUUCCGGUAAUCAAAUGAGGUCAUCCUAUAUAUCAAUCUUUGUUUCCGGACUAUUCCGGAAACCCUCGUGACGUCCGUGAUCUCAUCUGGGACUCCGGACAACAUUCGGUAACCAACCAUAUAACUCAAAUACGCAUAAAAUAACGUCGAAUCUUAAGUGUGCAGACCCUGCGGGUUCGAGAACUAUGUAGACAUGACCCGAGAGACUCCUCGGUCAAUAUCCAAUAGCGGGACCUGGAUGCCCAUAUUGGANNNNNNNNNNCGUUUCCGGACCAUUCCGGAAACCCUCGUGACGUCCGUGAUCUCAUCCGGGACUCCGAACAACAUUCGGUAACCAACCAUAUAACUCAAAUACGCAUAAAACAACGUCGAACCUUAAGUGUGCAGACCCUGCGGGUUCGAGAACCAAGUAGACAUGAACCGAGUGACUCCUCGGUCAAUAUCCAAUAGCGGGACCUGGAUGCCCAUAUUGGAUCCUACAUAUUCUACGAAGAUCUUAUCGUUUGAACCUUAGUGCCAAGGAUUCAUAUAAUCCCGUAUGUCAUUCCCUUUGUCCUUCGGUAUGUUACUUGCCCGAGAUUCGAUCGUCAGUAUCCGCAUACCUAUUUCAAUCUCGUUUACUGGCAAGUCUCUUUACUCGUUCCGUAAUACAAGAUCNNNNNNNNNNCGUCAUUCCCUUUGUCCUUCGGUAUGUUACUUGCCCGAGAUUCGAUCAUCAGUAUCCGUAUACCUAUUUCAAUCUCAUUUACCGGUAAGUCUCUUUACUCGUUCCGUAAUACAAGAUCCCGCAACUUACACUAAGUUACAUUGCUUGCAAGGCUUGUGUGUGAUGUUGUAUUACCGAGUGGGCCCCGAGAUACCUCUCCGUCACACGGAGUGACAAAUCCCAGUCUUGAUCCAUACUAACUCAACUAACAACUUCGGAGAUACCUGUAGAGCAUCUUUAUAGUCACCCAGUUAUGUUGCGACGUUUGAUACACACAAAGCAUUCCUCCGGUGUCAGUGAGUUAUAUGAUCUCAUGGUCAUAGGAAUAAAUACUUGACACGCAGAAAACAGUAGCAACAAAAAUGACACGAUCAACAUGCUACAUCUAUUAGUUUGGGUCUAGUCCAUCACGUGAUUCUCCUAAUGACGUGAUCCAGUUAUCAAGCAACAACACCUUGUUCAUAAUCUGAAGACACUGACUAUCUUUGAUCAACUGGCUAGCCAACUAGAGGCUUGCUAGGGANNNNNNNNNNGGUGUUUUGUCUAUGUAUGCACACAUGUAGAUGAGUCUUCAUUCAAUACAAUUAUAGCAUGGACAAUAAACGAUUAUCUUGAUACAGGAAUUAUAAUAAUAACUAUAUUUAUUAUUGCCUCUAGGGCAUAAUUCCAACAUACUCGAGGACGAGCAGAAAUUAAGCUUGGGGAUGCUGAUACGUCUCCGUCGUAUCUAUAAUUUUUGAUUGUUUCAUGCCAAUAUUCUACAACUUACAUAUACUUUUGGCAACUUUUUAUACUAUUUUUGGGACUAAAAUAUUGAUCCAGUUCCCAGUGCCAGUUCCUGUUUGUUGCAUGUUUUUUGUUUCGUAUAAUAUCCAUACCAAACGAAGUCCAAACACAAUAAAAAACCUAUGGUGAUUUUUUAUGGAAUAUUUAUGAUUUUUGGGAAGAAGAAUCAACGCAAAACGAUGCCCGAGGGGGUCACAAGCCUAGGAGGUGCCCCCUAGGGCACGGCAGGCAGGCUUGUGACCAAUCCCUAAGGCGGUUGGGGCCCUUCUUUCGCCGCAAGAAAGCUAAUAUCCGGAAGAAAAUCGUGUUAAAAUCAGCCCACUUGGAGUUAUGGAUCUCCGGGAAUUUUAAGAAACGGUGAAAGGCAGAAUCUGGGAGCGCACAAACAGAAGGACACACAGAGAGAGAUCCAAUCUCGGAGGGGCUCUCGCCCCUCCGCCGCCAUGGAGACCAUGGACCAGAGGGGAAACCCUUCUCCCAUCUAGGGAGGAGGUCAAGGAAGAAGAAGAAGAAGGGGGGCUCCCUCCCCCUCUCUCCCGGCGGUGCCGGAACGCCGCCCGGGACAUCAUCGUGUGACAGCGAUCUACACCAACACGUCCGUCAUCUUCACCAACACCUCCUUCUCCUUCCCCCAUCUAUAUUCAGCGGUCCACUCUCCCGCAACCCGCUGUACCCUCUACUUGAACAUGGUGCUUUGUGCUUCAUAUUAUUAUCCGAUGAUGUGUUGCCAUCCUAUGAUGUCUGAGUAGAUUUUUGUUGUCCUAUCGGUUAUUGAUGAAUUGGUGUGAUUGGUUUGAUUUGCUUGUGGUUAUGUUGCUGUCCUUUGGUGCCCAUCAUAUGAGCGCGCGCGUGGAUCACACGAUAGGGUUAGUAUUAUGUUGAUAGGACUAUGUAUUGGAGGGGAAGGGUGAUAGAAGCUUCAGCCUAGCAUAGAAACUGAUGCAUGCGGGAUUGAAGGGGGCCCAAUAUAUCUUAUUGCUAUGGUUGGGUUUUAACUUAUUGAACGUUAGUAGUUGCGGAUGCUUGCUAAUAGAUCCAAUCAUAAGUGCAUAGAAUUUCAAGUAAGGGAUGACAUGCUAGCAGUGGCCUCUCCCACAUAAAACUUGNNNNNNNNNNNNNNNNNNNNNNNNNNNNNNNNNNNNNNNNNNNNNNNNNNNNNNNNNNNNNNNNNNNNNNNNNNNNNNNNNNNNNNNNNNNNNNNNNNNNGAGGUGGCAAACUUUGUGACAGCACACUACGAAGCCAAAAAUCAUCAUUUGCAUAAUCCGAAGCCUCGGCACAAUGAUGGAGACCCUAAAAAAGGUGGGUCCAACGUCAGCCUAUUCAAAGGGAAGCUCGCACUAGCCGGUGCUUCGAAACCAAUAACGUUGGAUAUCAAAGAAUGGCGGAACAUGUCGUUGUAUAUCUUCAACAACCUAACAGGAGUGCGGCCGUACAUCGAGUGAGUUCUCGACACAUUUUCCCGUAACUUCUAAUUCAUUUGAACGGUUCUUAUUCCCGGAUAUUUCAAACAGCCGUUACGUCGUCAAAUUCUCGGAUGGAGCGGUGAUCGAAAAUGAUUCCGUGGAAGAAUAUGAGCUUCUGACUAAGACAGGAGGCGGCUAUCCCGGUUUCAUCUCUUGGUUCAAACAAACGGUAAUUAUCAAUAAUGGACCAUUUCAUUCUUGGUCUAACUUGCGGCUAAUGCAACAACCUUUUCGUAUUAAACUUGUAGGCUAAUUCAGAGUCUAUGGACGCCGAAUUGAGACAAGUCGCUAAUGGUUUUCACUAUAAGGUCCGUUCAUUUGAGAAAUACAACAUCAACGGGUAUCUCUUUCGUACCUUUGGCAAAGAGCUAUCUAUGCCCGACUGGAAAUCUACAAAUUGUGGUGUCUCUGCUAUCGGCGAAGGUGUUAUCGAGUACUAUGGAAGAGUUGAAGCAAUUUAUGAACUUCAAUUCUAUGGUGAGAACCCACCGAACGUCGUAGGCUUCAAAUGUUAUUGGUUCCGGCCGAAAAAGACUAGAAGGAGUCAUGAACAUAUAGGACUAGUCGAAAUCAAUCCAAACACCCAUUUAGAUAUUCCCGAUGUCUAUAUUACGGCUCAACAGGCGACCCAAGUUUUCUAUAUACCGUGGGCAUGCCAAACGGAUAAGAAUAUGGAAGGUUGGUAUGUUGUUUAUGAAGUGCCGCCACAUGUCAGACCACCUCUCCCAAAUGAACAGGAUUAUGAACCUCACAUUAACCCAGACACAUAUGAUGGAGAAUUCUUCCAAGAAACACGUCUUUCCAAGAAACGUUUCAAGAACCGUCGUGCUUCAUCCAAGAACAUGGAAGUAGACAGCGACAAUGAAUCCGACUCUAGCCCUAAGCCGGAACCAGAAGACCUGGAACUCGUAGAGGUUACUGAUGCGGAUGACCUGUCAAUGCUUCAACGAUUAAAGGAAGGCCUUUCACAACUUCACGCCGUUGAACCCGAUGAGCACGUCAUUCAUGAAGACAUGCGUGAUAGUGAUGAUGAUGAUGCAUUUAUUGAUGAUGAUUAUUAGUUUGUAAGAUUCACAACUUAAAUUAUAUAUAUUUUAAUCUUUAUUAUUCAUGUACAUAUUAUUAUUCAUGUCAGUCAUUCAAUUUUUUUAUGUUGUACUAAUUUCUUUUAAUCUUUAUCAUGGCAGGUGUUGAAAGAUGGUGGGCGCGGGUCGAGAUCGCUCGACGGGUUCUUCCGAGGCGCCCCGCACGAGGGGUGGUACUUCCCUUCCACCCCUAUCUCUCUGUAGAGCCUUGGCAGACAGUCUUUCGACACCAGCCGUGGGUUCUUCUUUGUCGGCGGCAUUGCCCACUGGGAGAGGUGCUGGUCGGGUAGGGAAGGAGGGGAAGGGUACAGGGAGAGGUGGUGGCCGCGGAAGAUCCAGGAGGACUGUUGAGCCGUCCUCGCCACCACCACUAGCUCAUUCACCCGAGCAUAGGACUAGUACGGUCGACCCGUUUGCGGAGGAGGCUACGGGGACUCCGGUCCAGGAGCCUGCUGUUCACGGGCAUUCGUCCCAUGAGACUCCGGUCCAGGAGCAGCCUCGGGUCGAGGUGCAUUCGGCCCAGGAGCAGCCGGAGGAGACUAGGGUUCCGGAGGCUUCACCCGACGUGGAGAGGGCCGGAUGGGAGAUCUGGCCGGAUCGUACCGAGUUGCCGGAUUGGACCGAGGGUCCGGGUGGCUCAGGGGGCGGGGAUGGCGGGGAUGAGCUUACGGAUAGUGAGGGCGAUGUGCAGGUGGACGGGGCCACCGUGUACAAGCGUGGUAGUACACGUCUCCCGGUCGCCCCGGCUACCCGCGAGCAGAGGCCGGUGAUUAAACCUGAAGGAGAUAGGUAAGUACAUUUACCCUUUUUUAGCUUUUGCCUUCAAGUUUAUUCAAAUAUCUAAUGCGCUGACCUUAUCAUACUGCAGGGGAUGGGUACACCCUCUUGGAGUCCGCAGGCCGAACUCCGUCCAUUGUGUGCUUUGCCAGACAAAUUUCCCCGGGGUUUUUCACGUUGCGUGGUGAGGGUCAGGUUCCUACACUAGGAUUUACCUGGGAGCACUACCAGGCUGCGCAGGCCCCGCCGGAGGAGAUUAUAGAUGGUGUCUUGUGCCACACGAGGGCCGAGAUGGUGAUCAAGAGCUUUUGGGUAAAUUAUCCUUUUACAGGAUCUAAAAUUAACAAUAUAGCUAAUUAUUGUACUAAUCGGUGUUUUCACGUUUGAUUGCAGACCUUCUAUAGGUGUGAGGAUGGAUAUGAGGAGGAGGCGGCCAGGGUUCUCGAGGUCGAGUGUAGGCGGUUACUACAGAACUUGCGCCACGAGGCUCGGCCGCAGGCUAUUCGAGAUUACUACGCCACGCGUGGUAUUAAGAAGACGAAGAAGGAUUGAUUUGGAAAGUUUCUGAAGAAGGAGCAAUACAUGAAGGUAAUUACCUAUUCUUAAGUCCUUCUACGUAGUUUUCUUGAUUUCAUUCAUAGGCGUAGCGCUGAAAAUUCUUUCUAAUAACUUACAGGUGCCCCCGAGAUGGUGUGCGGAUAAGAUGGAUUGUUGGGGGGCGUUUGUUGAUGAGUGGUGCACACGCAGCUGGCGAGCCAUCCACGAGAAUGCGAAGGAUCGGCGUAGCCAAAUAGUUGGUGUGCCACACCAUCAAGGCAGCGCCAACUUACUUCAGUUUGGACGAAACUGGGUAUGUGAUUUGCUUCAUGAUUCAUGCAAUUCAUUCUUGAUGCUAAUAUUGUGUUCCUCUCUUUUAGGCGCAUCACAAUAAGACUGAGAUGCCACACUUGUACGACCUUUAUGGCAUGGCCCAUACUGCCUCGUACAAGAAGGCGAAGGCAUUCUCUGAGUCUGACCUGGAUGAUCCCAAUAACUUUACCAACAUAUCAUCCCACCAGAAGCUCGUGGCAUACAGGGACGCGGGGAAGGCUACGAAAGGGGAUGACUUUAACCCUAGCCAGGAACCUUUGGAUCCAGAGCUGGUGAUGAUAUCUGGUGGCGGGAGGCCCCAUGGCUCGAUAGCCAUUGGAGAUGGGAUAAUACGUUGUCCACUCACUCUUCCGGAGAUCAAGGCGCGCCAGUCGAGCAACUGUCCUGAGAUAACGCGUCGUCCACGGCCAGUCGAACUUGCCAUCAAGGUUAGUUGUAUGGACUAAGAACACUUUCAUCCAUUUCAUUAUCUGUGUCACCAUAGAUCAUUACUGUGGUAACGAGGAAUGGUGUUUCAGGCUGCUCUUCAGAAAGAGAGAGCGGCAAACCACGCUGCUCUUGAGAAAGAGAGAUUGGCAAGCCAGGCUGCUCUUCAGGCUGCUCUUGAUGAGAGGGACCAGACCAGAGCACGAUUGCUUGAGGAGGAGAGGGCUCGGAAUGAGGCGGGUCAACGGGCCCUGUACGAGCUUUCUGUGGUAUGUUUUAUUCACAUUAGCCAAAUCAUGUGUGUAAUGUAUGUUUCAAUACCAACUAAUACGACCCACUCUUCAGGGUCUGUGCGAGAAGAGCGGUCAAGUCCCUCCGCCGAUGCCCGUCUUCUCUUCGAUUGGCACGGUGAGUUUCAUUAUAAACUAGUAUUAAUAAUUGAGUGUCAUCAUGCAAACUAAGACAUUGCAAAAUAUCUUCUCUGCAGAAUAACUCCCAAGCGGCAUCGCACGACCCUUCUCCAGGGCAACCGUCUCCAAACGAAGCCGCCGCGAGCAACCGUGGUGUUUCUCCUCGUUGAUGACCACUACGGUAAGUUUCUCCUCCAAAUUUAGCUUGUUUUCCUCUAAAAUGAGAUAAUUAGCCCAUUUAGAUCCAAGAAGACAUAAUUAGGUAAUUUAGCUCCAACAAGAGGAGGAGAAAUAGGAAAAAUUAAAAUAAAGAAGAAGAAGAAGAAGAGAAGAAGGAGAAGGAGGAGGAGGAGGAGGAGGAGGAGGAGAAGGAGGAGAAGGCCAAGGACCUUCUAGUCCUUCUCCUCCUCCUCCUUCUCCUCCUUCUCCUCCUUGAUUUCUUCUUCUUAUCCUCCUCCUCCUGUUUGUUCUCCCCUUUCAUAUUAUCCUUGCUUUAAUUUCCCCAACAAUGACAUAAUUAGUCCAUUUAGCUCCAAAAUACCAUAAUAAGCUCAAAAUGGCAUAAGAACCNNNNNNNNNNNNNNNNNNNNNNNNNNNNNNNNNNNNNNNNNNNNNNNNNNNNNNNNNNNNNNNNNNNNNNNNNNNNNNNNNNNNNNNNNNNNNNNNNNNNCGAGUGGGCCCCGAGAUACCUCUCCGUCACACGGAGUGACAAAUCCCACUCUCGAUCCAUACUAACUCGACGAACACCUUCGGAGAUACCUGUAGAGCAUCUUUAUAGUCACCCAGUUACGUUGCGACAUUUGAUACACACAAAGCAUUCCUCCGGUGUCAGUGAGUUAUAUGAUCUCAUGGUCAUAGGAACAAAUACUUGACACGCAGAAAACAGUAGCACUAAAAUGACACGAUCAAUAUGCUACGUCUAUUAGUUUGGGCUAGUCCAUCACGUGAUUCUCCUAAUGACAUGAUCCAGUUAUCAAGCAACAACGCUUUGUUCAUAAUCAGAAGACCCUGACUAUCUUUGAUCAACUGGCUAGCCAACUAGAGGCUUGCUAGGGACAGUGUUUUGUCUAUGUAUCCACACAUGUAUAUAAGUCUUCAUUCAAUACAAUUAUAGCAUGGAUAAUAAACGAUUAUCUUGAUACAGGAAUUAUAAUAAUAACUAUAUUUAUUAUGGCCUCUAGGGCAUAAUUCCAACAGUACAUGUACUCUAUGCAUGACUUGCCAGCGUAUGCACUAUUCUCUCGAUGGUGUGUGCAUGGAAGGUUCCCGUGCCCCAAAUGCAAGGCAGCUCUUCAGUUUCAUUGGUUGCAGGAGGGUCGGAAGUAUUCUUGCUUUGACUUGCAUAGACAGUUCCUGGAUCCUGACCAUCAGUUCAGAAAAGACAAGAAGAACUUUACCAAAGGUAAAGUUGUCAAAAACUUGGCACCACCUGCGUUCACAGGCCAACAGAUCCUGGAUUAGUUAAACGCCCUCGAGCCUGAUCCAGAGCGUCCAGGGUAUUUCAAGGGGUAUAAUUCAAAACACGCCUGUACUCAGAAGCCAUGCUUCUGGGAUCUGCCUUACUUCAAAGACCUCCUUCUUCCANNNNNNNNNNAUAAAGGUAAAGUUGUCAAGAACUUGGCACCACCUGCGUUCACAGGCCAACAGAUCUUGGAUGAGUUAAACGCCCUCGAGCCUGAUCCAGAGCGUCCAUGGUAUUUCAAGGGUUAUAAUUCAAAACACGCCUGGACUCACAAGCCAUGCUUCUGGGAUCUGCCUUACUUCAAAGACCUCCUUCUUCCACACAAUAUCGACAUGAUGCACACUGAAAAGAAUAUGGGAGAGGCUAUUUUUGGUACAUUGUUUGACAUAGAUGGGAAGACAAAGGAUAAUAUUAAGGCUAGAGUCGAUCAAGAGACACUAUGUCAUAGACCAUUACAAAACAUGCGAGAAGGCAAAGGAAAGCAGAAGUGGUCGAAGCCAAAGGCCUGGUUCAUUCAUGGAAGGCCAGCUAUGAGGGAAAUUAUCUUGUGGGUCAAAAUGCACUUGAUGUUCCCCGAUGGGUAUGCAGCGAAUCUAAAGAGGGGAGCGAGUCUUGAAAAAUUAAAAAUCUUUGGUCUCAAGAGUCAUGAUUGGCACAUAUGGCUAGAGCGGGUAAUACCGGUGAUGUUAUGUGGCUUUAUUCCCGAGGAUGAAUGGCUAGUACUGGCGGAGCUGAGCUAUUUCUUUCAUGUUCUUUGUGCGAAAGAAUUGUCGCCUGGCGUGGUAGAAGACAUGGAGGAGUUUGCACUGGAGUUGUUGUGCAAGUUAGAGAAGAUCUUUCCACCGGGCUUCUUUAAUCCAAUGCAGCAUUUGAUUUUACAUCUACUGACCGAGGCAAGAUUGGGUGGGCCCGUGCAAGAUCGUUGGUGCUAUGCAACUGAGAGGAUGCAGAAGACCCUUCGAGCUAAAUGUAAGAAUAAGCGUUGAAUUGAAGCAUCGAUGGCUGAGUCAUUCAUUACUGAGGAGGUGGCAAACUUUGUGACAGCACACUACGAAGCCAAAAAUCAUCAUCUGCAUAAUCCGAAGCCUCGGCACAAUGAUGCAGACCAUAAAAAAGGUGGGUCCAACCUCAGCCUAUUCAAAGGGAAGCUCGCACCAGUCGGUGCUUCGAAACCAAUAACGUUGGAUGUCGAAGAAUGGCGGAACAUUUCGUUGUAUAUCUUCAACAACCUACCAGAAGUGCGGCCGUACAUCGAGUGAGUUCUCGACACAUUUUCCCGUAACUUCUAAUUCAUUUGAACUGCUCUUAUUCCCGGAUAUUUCAAACAGCCCUUACAUCGUCAAAUUCUCGGAUGGAGCGGUGAUCGAAAAUGAUUCCGUCGAAGAUUAUGCGCUUCUGUCAAAGACAGGAGGCGGCUAUCCCGGUUUCAUCUCUUGGUUCAAACAAACGGUAAUUAUCAAUAAUGGACCAUUUCAUUCUUGGUCAACCUUGGUUAGCUCAUGAAUAUUAUAUACUUAGCUUGUUUUCCUCUAAAGUGGGAUAAUUAGCCCAUUUAGCUCAAAAAAAACAUAAUUACGUAAUUUAGCUCCAAGAAGAGGAGAAGAAAUAGGAAAAAUAAAAAUAAAGAAGAAGAAGAAGAAGAGAAGAAGGAGAAGGAGGAGGAGGAGGAGGAGGAGGAGAAGGAGGAGAAGGCAAAGGACCUUCUAGUCCUUCUCCUCCUCCUCCUUCUCCUCCUUCUCCUCNNNNNNNNNNNNNNNNNNNNNNNNNNNNNNNNNNNNNNNNNNNNNNNNNNNNNNNNNNNNNNNNNNNNNNNNNNNNNNNNNNNNNNNNNNNNNNNNNNNNCUUUCAUAUUAUCCUUGAUUAAUUUCCCCAACAAUGACAUAAUUAGCCCAUUUAGCUCCAAAAUGCCAUAAUAAGCUCAAAAUGGCAUCAGAACCUUGGUUAGCUCAUGAAUAUUAUAUACUUAGCUUGUUUUCCUCNNNNNNNNNNACCUCCUCCUCCUUCUCCUCCUUCUCCUCCUUCUCUUCUUCUUCUUCUCCUCCUCCUCCUCUUUCUUCUCCUCUUUCAUAUUAUCCUUGCUUUAAUUUCCCCAAAAAGACAUAAUUAGCCCAUUUAGCUCCAAAAUGCCAAAAUAACCUCAAAAUGGCAUAAGAACAUUGGUUAGGUCAUGAAUAUUAUAUACAUAGCUUGUUUUCCUCUAAAAUGAGAUAAUUAGCCCAUUUAGCUCCAAAAAGACAUAAUUAGGUAAUUUAGCUCCAACAAGAGGAGAAGAGGAGAAGAAAUAGGCAAAAUGAAAAGAAAGAAGAAGAAGAAGAGAAGAAGGAGAAGGAGGAGGAGGAGAAGGAGGAGAAGGCCAAGGACCUUCUAGUCCUUCNNNNNNNNNNAAUAGGAAAAAUGAAAAUAAAGAAGAAGAAGAAGAAGAGAAGAAUGAGAAGGAGGAGGAGUAGGAGGAGAAGGAGGAGAAGGCCAAGGACCUUCUAGUCCUUAUCCUCCUCCUCCUUCUCCUUUUUCUCCUCCUUCUUCUUGAUUUCUUCUUCUUCUCCUCCUCCUCCUCUUUCUUCUCCUCUUUCAUAUUAUCCUUGCUUUAAUUUCCCCAAAAAGACAUAAUUAGCUCAUUUAGCUCCAAAAUGCCAUAAUAACCUCAAAAUGGCAUAAGAACCUUGGUUAGAUCAUGAAUAUUAUAUACUUAGCUUGUUUUCCUAUAAAAUGAGAUAAUUAGCCCAUUUAGCUCCAAAAAGACAUAAUUAGGUNNNNNNNNNNNNNNNNNNNNNNNNNNNNNNNNNNNNNNNNNNNNNNNNNNNNNNNNNNNNNNNNNNNNNNNNNNNNNNNNNNNNNNNNNNNNNNNNNNNNNNNNNNNNNNNNNNNNNNNNNNNNNNNNNNCUUAUCCUCCCUCUUCUUGAUUUCUUCUUCUUCUCCUCCUCCUCCUCUUUCUUCUCCCCUUUCAUAUUAUCCUUGCUUUAAUUUCCCCAAAAAGACAUAAUUAGCCCAUUUAGCUCCAAAAUGCCAUAAUAAGGUCAAAAUGGCAUAAGAACCUUGGUUAGCUCAUGAAUAUUAUAUACUUANNNNNNNNNNNNNNNNNNNNNNNNNNNNNNNNNNNNNNNNNNNNNNNNNNNNNNNNNNNNNNNNNNNNNNNNNNNNNNNNNNNNNNNNNNNNNNNNNNNNCUUCUAGUCCUUCUCCUCCUCCUCCUUCUCCUCCUUCUCCUCCUUCUUGAUUUCUUCUUCUUCUCCUCCGCCUCCUAUUUCUUCUCCUAUUUCAUAUUAUCCUUGCUUUAAUUUCCCCAACAAUGACAUAAUUAGCCCAUUUAGCUCCAAAAUACCGUAAUAAGCUCAAAAUAGCAUAAGAACCUUGGUUAGCUCAUGAAUAUUAUAUACUUAGCUUGUUUNNNNNNNNNNACCCAUUUAGCUCCAAAAAGACAUAAUUAGGUAAUUUAGCUCCAACAAUAAAUAGGAAAAAUGAAAAGAAAGAAAGAAGAAGAAGAAGAGAGGAAGGAGAAGGAGGAGGAGGAGGAGAAGGCCAAGGACCUUCUAGUCCUUCUCCUCCUCCUUGUCCUCCUUCUUGAUUUCUUUUUCUUCUCCUCCUCCUCCUCUUUCCUCUCCUAUUUCAUAUUAUCCUUGCUUUAAUUUCCCCAACAAUGACAUAAUUAACCCAUUUAGCUCCAAAAUGCCAUAAUAAGCUAAAAAUGGCAUAAGAACCUUGGUUAGCUCAUGAAUAUUAUAUUCUUAGCUUGUUUUCCGCUAGAAAUGACAUAAUUACCUCAAAACAUCAUAUUUUGUUCUUUUUCUGACUUUCUUAUUCACAUUUUUGCAGAUUGGAUAUACUACAUGCAUGAAAGCUGGCAUUCAUGGAGUUGAACAAUGUCGAUGGAUGAACUUUAUAUGUAUAUCAUCUAGUUUUCAUUUGAGUUGAUGAACAAUGUUGAACUAUAUGUAUAUAUAUAUGGAUAAACAGUGCAAUACUUUGUAUGUUGGUUCUUUUGAUAUAUGGGGAUGUACAUUGAUUUAUAUGUAUAUCAUAUAUGUGUGGUGAAUUAUAUAUAUGUGUUGGCAAGUAUAUGUGNNNNNNNNNNNNNNNNNNNNNNNNNNNNNNNNNNNNNNNNNNNNNNNNNNNNNNNNNNNNNNNNNNNNNNNNNNNNNNNNNNNNNNNNNNNNNNNNNNNNCGCGAUGAUGACACUAUUUGGACGUUUCCUACCCAAAGGCCAUGUCAUGCCUGCAAACCUGUACCAGUCGGAAAAAAUAUUUCGUUUACUUAAGAUGCACUAUGAGAAGAUACAUGCAUGUGAGAAAGGAUGUGUCUUAUUUAGGAAGGAGUAUCUACACUUGGACUAUUGUCCCAAUUGCGAGUCUUGCAGGUAUCUUGUGGUAGACAAACGGUAUGGGUGAGAAGAGGCAGACCAAAAUCGCAGUUAGUGUUCUUCGGUAUAUCACAAUCGUACCAAUACUUCAACGUCUUUUCAUGGUCGAAGAGACAGCCAGACAGAUGACAAGGCACAAAUUGGGCAAAAGAACCGAACUAGAUGCGGAUGGGAAUAAGAUGAUGGUACACACAUCGGAUGGGGAAGCGUGGAAACAUUUCGAUGGAUUGCAUCAAGAUAAAGCGACAGAUCCAAGGAAUCCUCGAGUCUGUGCCGCCACGGUCGGUUUUAAUCCCUUCGGCAUGACGACAACCCAAUACAGUUGUUGGCCUGUAUUUGUCAUUCCACUCAAUCUCCNNNNNNNNNNCCUAGGCAGAUUAUGCAAAGAAAGAUCAUAUUUCUGACGUUGAUAAUUCCAGGGCCCAAUUAUCCGGGGAAGAAUAUGAAUGUGUAUCUGCAACCGCUUAAGGAUGAAUUGGAAGAAGCUUGGGAUAAUGGGGUCAAGACAUACGAUGCCGCUAGAAAAAAAAACUUCAAAAUGCAUGUGUGGUACAUGUUGGGGAACGUCGCAUGGGAAACAAAAAAUUUCCUACGCGCACGAAGACAUAUCAUGGUGAUGUCCAUCUACGAGAGGGCAUAUUCGAUCUACGUACCCUUGUAUGAUUUCCAACAAGUCACUAGCACGCUCAAUUGUUCCGGAGAACGGAGUUUUAGUCAUCUUGCCCAUGAGGCAUGGUUCGCACGUGUCAAGUGAAUCAAAGUCAAGUGACUCCAAAAGUCCAUCGGCAUGGAGUUUCUUCAUGCGCUUUACACCAAUAUGACCUAAGCGGUAGUGCCACAAAAAUAUGGCGCUAUCAUUGUUAACUUUAACUCUUUUGGUCUCAAUGUUAUGUAUGUGUGUAUCACUAUCAAGAUUCAAUAUGAACAAUCCUCUCACAUUGGGUGCAUGACCAUAAAAGAUGUUACUCAUAGAAAUAGAACAACUAUUAUUCUCUGAAUUAAAAGAGUAACCGUCUCGCAAUAAACAAGAUCCAGAUAUAAUGUUCAUGCUCAACGCAGGCACUAAAUAACCAUGAUUCAAGUUCAUAACUAAUCCUGAUGGUAACUGAAGUGAAACUGUGCCGACGGCGAUUGCAUCAAACUUGGAACCAUUUCCUACGCGCAUCGUCACUUCAUCUUUCGCCAGCCUUCGUCUAUUCCGCAGUUCCUGUUUCGAGUUGCAAAUAUGAGCAACAGAACCGGUAUCGAAUACCCAGGCACUACUACGAGUGCCGGUUAAGUACACAUCAAUAACAUGUAUAUCAAAUAUACCUGAUUUUUCUUUGGCCGCCUUCUUAUCAGCCAGAUACUUGGGGCAGUUGCGCUUCUAGUGACCCAUACCCUUGCAAUAGUAACACUCUGUUUCAGGCUUAGGUCCAGCUUUGGGUUUCUUCAUCGGAUUGGCAACAGGCUUGCCGCUCUUCUUUGAAUUACCCGUCUUGCCUUUGCCGUUUCUCUUGAAACUAGUGGUCUUAUUCACCAUCAACACUUGAUGCUCNNNNNNNNNNCCCGCCUUCUUAUCUGCCAGAUACUUGGGGCAAUUGCGCUUCCAAUGACCCAUACCCUUGCAAUAGUAACACUCCGUUUCCGGCUUAGGUCCAGCUUUGGGUUUCUUCGUCGGAUUGGCAACAGGCUUGCCGCUCUUCUUCGAAUUUCCCUUCUUGCCUUUGCUGUUUCUCUUGAAACUAGUGGUCUUAUUCACCAUCAACACUUGAUGCUCUUUAUGGAGUUCAGACUCUGCGACUUUCAGCAUCGCAAACAACUCGCCGGGUGACUUGUUCAUCCCUUGCAUGUUGUAGUUCAACACAAAGCCUUUAUAGCUUGGUGGCAGUGAUUGAAGGAUUCUGUCAGUGAUAGCUUCUUGCGGGAGUUCAAUCCCCAGCUCAGCUAGACGGUUUGAGUACCCACACAUUUUGAGCACAUGUUCACUGACAGACGAGUUUUCCUCCAUCUUGCAAGCAUAGAAUUUAUCANNNNNNNNNNGUUUGAGUACCCAGACAUUUUGAGCACAUGUUCACUGACAGAUGAGUUUUCCUCCAUCUUGCAAGCAUAGAAUUUAUCGGAGGUCUCAUACCUCUCGAUCCGGGCGUUCUUCUGAAAGAUAAAUUCCAACUCCUGGAACAUCUCAAAUGCUCCAUGACGCUCAAAGCGACGUUGAAGUCCCGGUUCUAAGCCAUACAAGACUGCACAUUGAACUANNNNNNNNNNNNNNNNNNNNNNNNNNNNNNNNNNNNNNNNNNNNNNNNNNNNNNNNNNNNNNNNNNNNNNNNNNNNNNNNNNNNNNNNNNNNNNNNNNNNCAUGCUAGGCUCGUCAAGCUUAACCCGAGUAUUCCGCGUGCGCAACUGUUUUGCACCCGUUGUAUGUGAACGUUGAGUCUAUCACACCCGAUCAUCACGUGGUGUCUCGAAACGACGAACUGUAGCAACGGUGCACAGCCGGGGAGAACACAAUUUCGUAUUGAAAUUUUAGUGAGAGAUCACCUCAUAAUGCUACCGACGUUUUAAGCAAAAUAAGGUGCAUAAAAGGAUUAACAUCACAUGCAAUUCAUAAGUGACAUGAUAUGGCCAUCAUCACGUGCUCCUUGAUCUCCAUCAGCAAAGCACCGGCACGAUCUUCUUGUCACCGGCGCCACACCAUGAUCUCCAUCAACGUGUCACCAUCAGGGUUGUCGUGCUGCUCAUGCUAUUACUACUAAUGCUACAUCCUAGCAAAAUAGUAAACGCAUCUGCAAGCACAAACGUUAGUUUAAAGACAACCCUAUGGCUCCUGCCGGUUGCCGUACCAUCGACGUGCAAGUCGAUAUUUCUAUUACAACAUGAUCAUCUCAUACAUCCAAUAUAUCACAUCACAUCAUUGGCCAUACCACAUCACAAGCAUACCCUGCAAAAACAAGUUAGACGUCCUCUAAUUUUGUUGUUGCAUGUUUUACGUGGUGACCAUGGGUAUCUAGUAGGAUCGCAUCUUACUUACGCAAACACCACAACGGAGAUAUAUGAGUUGCUAUUUAACCUCAUCCAAGGACCUCCUCGGUCAAAUCCGAUUCAACUAAAGUUGGAGAAACCGACACUUGCCAGUCAUCUUUGAGCAACGGAGUUACUCGUAACGAUGAAACCAGUCUGUCGUAAGCGUACGAGUAAUGUCGGUCCAAGCCGCUUCAAUCCAACAAUACCGCGGAAUCAAGAAAAGACUANNNNNNNNNNNNNNNNNNNNNNNNNNNNNNNNNNNNNNNNNNCUCGUAAGCGUACGAGUAAUGUCGGUCCAAGCCGCUUCGAUCCAACAAUACCGCGGAAUCAAGAAAAGACUAAGGAGGGCAGCAAAACGCACAUCACCGCCCACAAAAACUUUUGUGUUAUACUCGAGAAGACAUCUACGCAUGAACCUAGCUCAUGAUGCCACUGUUGGGUAACGUCGCAUGGGAAACAAAAAAUUUACUACGCGCACGAAGACCUAUCAUGGUGAUGUCCAUCUACGAGAGGGGAUAUUCGAUCUACGUACCCUUGUAGAUCGCACAGCUGAAGUGUUAGUGAACACGGUUGAUGUAGUGGAACGUCCUCAGGUCCCUCGAUCCGCCCCGCGAACCGCCCCGCGAUCAGUCCCACGAUCUAGUGCCGAACGGACCACCUCCGCGUUCAGCACACGUACAGCUCGACGAUGAUCUCGGCCUUCNNNNNNNNNNNNNNNNNNNNNNNNNNNNNNNNNNNNNNNNNNNNNNNNNNNNNNNNNNNNNNNNNNNNNNNNNNNNNNNNNNNNNNNNNNNNNNNNNNNNCGCCCCUGCUGCACCCCCAGCCCCACCACCGGCGCCGCCGGCCCAGCCACUGCCCCGCAGGCCCCGGCGCCGCCCCCGCAGCCCCAACACUGCCGGUAAGCCCCCACACCCCACCCCCUUGUUAUUUAGUUUUUUGGAGGAAGAAGAAGAAUAAGAAGAGAGGAGGAGAAGAGGAGAAGAAGAGGAGGAGUAGGAGGAGGAGGAGUAGGAGGAGGAUGAGGAAGAGAAGAAAAAGAAGAAGAAGAACAAGAAGAACAAGAAGAAGAGAAGAAAAAAUUAAGAAGGAGAAGAAGAAGAAGAGAAGAAAAAAAAAGAAGGAGAAGAAGUAAAGAAGAAGAGAAGAAGAGAAUAAGAAAAAAAUAAGAAGGAGAAGAAGAGAAAAAAGAAGAAGAAGUUGAUUUUUUAUUGUCUGGUAUUUAGUUUUUUGGAAUUAAUUAGUAGUUUUAGUGGUAGAUUCUGUUAGUUAAUUAGUAGAUUUAGUGGUAGAUUCUGUUAGUUUAUUCGCCCAUCAUUAUUGCUUAGGUUCAAGACUACUUCAAAGAAGAUCACAUGUUCUUUUGUGGAAAUCAAGUCUGUCAAAAUAAUGUAUCGUCUAUAUUUAUUGGUAGUGGAGCAAAACAGGACAACUUAAAUAAUAUUGCCAUCCUCAAACGUAGAAAAUAUUGAAAAGUUUUAUAUAACCUGAAAAGUAGUAUAGGUAACGUGGAAAGUCCUCUGGACCAAAAGGGCAACUUCUGGACCUGCGAACUUUGCGUGGUAGGUGCAUGUCCAUGCACCAGGGUAAUUAACCCAACAAUGACAUAAUUAGCCCAUUUAGCUCCAAAAUACUAUAAUAAGCUCAAAAUGGCAUAAGAACCUUGGUUAGCUCAUUAAUAUUNNNNNNNNNNNNNNNNNNNNNNNNNNNNNNNNNNNNNNNNNNNNNNNNNNNNNNNNNNNNNNNNNNNNNNNNNNNNNNNNNNNNNNNNNNNNNNNNNNNNACACACAUAUACAUAUAUAUAUAUAUAUAUAUAUAUAUAUAUUUGAUAGCACAUUUAUAUAAUUCACCACACAUAUAUGAUAUAUAGUUCACGACAGAUAUACUUGCCAACACAUAUAUAUAAUUCACCACACAUAUAUGAUUCACCAAUGUACAUCCCCAUAUAUCCAAAGAACCAACAUACCAAGUAUUGCACUGUUUAUCCAUAUAUACAUAUACAUAUAGUUCAACAUUGUUCAUCAACUCAAAUGAAAACUAGAUGAUAUACAUAUAAAGUUCAUCCAUCGACAUUGUUCAACUCCAUGAAUGCCAGCUCCCAUGCAUGUAGUAUAUCCAAUCUGCAAAAAUGUGAAUAAGAAAGUUAGAAGAAGAACAAAAUAUGAUGUUUUUAAGCUAAUUAUGUCAUUUUUAGCGGAAAACAAGCUAAGUAUAUGUGUGGUGAACUAUAUAUCAUUUGUUGGAGCUAAAUUACCUAAUUAUGUCUUUUUUGAGCUAAAUGGGCUAAUUAUACCAUUUUAGAGGAAAACAAGCUAAGUAUAUAAUAUUAAUGAGCUAACCAAGGUUCUUAUGCCAUUUUGAGCUUAUUAUGGUAUUUUCGAGGUAAAUAGGCUAAUUAUGUCAUUGUUGGGUUAAUUAAAACAAGGAUAAUAUGAAAGAGGAGAAGAAAGAGGAGGAGGAGGAGAAGAAGAAGAAAUCAAGAAGAAGGAGGAGAAGGAGGAGAAGGAGGAGGAGGAGAAGAAGAAGAAAUCAAGAAGAAGGAGGAGAAGGAGGAGAAGGAGGAGGAGGAGAAGGACUAGAAGGUCCUUGGCCUUCUCCUCCUCCUCCUCCUCCUCCUCCUCCUUCUCCUUCUUCUCUUCUUCUUCUUCUGUUCUUCUUCUUCUUCUUUCUUUUCAUUUUGCCUAUUUCUUCUCCGCUUCUCCUCAUGUUGGAGCUAAAUUACCUAAUUAUGUAUUUUUUGAGCUAAAUGGGCUAAUUAUCCCAUUUUAGAGGAAAACAAGCUAAGUAUAUAAUAUUAAUGAGCUAACCAAGGUUCUUAUCCAUUUUGAGCUUAUUAUGGUAUUUCGGAGCUAAAUGGGCUAAUUAAGUCAUUGUUGGGUUAAUUAAAGCAAGGAUAAUAUGAAAGAGGAGAAGAAAGAGGAGGAGGAGGAGAAGAAAAAGAAAUCAGGAAGAAGGAGGAGGAGAGGAGAAGGAGGAGGAGGAGAAGGAUAGAAGGUCCUUGGCCUUCUCCUCCUCCUCCUCCUCCUUCUCCUUCUUCUCUUCUUCUUCUUCUUCNNNNNNNNNNNNNNNNNNNNNNNNNNNNNNNNNNNNNNNNNNNNNNNNNNNNNNNNNNNNNNNNNNNNNNNNNNNNNNNNNNNNNNNNNNNNNNNNNNNNCAGGGUUUCGAACGAGAACUCAUCUCUUACAAAGGGAUUUCAUUUUUUAAAACUUAUUUGAACUCCAUACUUUUUGUGUGUUCAAACUGCACCAUUCAAAGGCACAUCACAAAAUUUCAACAAUUUCUGACUUCANNNNNNNNNNACUGGAUGCAGUUCGUGUUCAAAACUGACAAUCUCUCUCGAAGUAGCAGGGUUUCGAACGAGAACUCAUCUCUUACAAAAGGAUUUCAUUUUUUUAAACUUAUUUGAACUCCAUACUUUUUGUGUGUUCAAAAUGCACCAUUCAAAGGCACAUCAGAAAAUUUCAACAAUUUCUGACUUCAUUUGGUAUAUUUCGUGCAUUUACUUAUUUUUUUGAGCUAGUUGACCCUGAAAUUGAAAAGCACUACAAAUGAACUCUGAAAAAUGUUGAAAGUUGGCAUGCUAUCAUCAUUUAACCCACAUAGCAUGUGUUAGAAAGUUGAGAGGGCUACGACAAAAGCUGGAUGCAGUUCGUGUACAACACUGACAAUCUCUCUCGAAGUAGCAGGGUUUCGAACGAGAACUCAUCUNNNNNNNNNNNNNNNNNNNNNNNNNNNNNNNNNNNNNNNNNNNNNNNNNNNNNNNNNNNNNNNNNNNNNNNNNNNNNNNNNNNNNNNNNNNNNNNNNNNNUUCAUGAUUACCUUGCUAGUUUGCUUGAAGUAUUAUUGUCUCCACGUCAAUAGAAAACUAUUGUUUUGAAUCUAAUGGAUCUGAACAUUCACGUCACAUAAGAGGAGUUACAAAGGACAUCUAUGCUAGCUAGCAUGAAAGCAUAAAAAUUCAUUCUUUAUCACUUCCCUACUCGAGGACGAACAGGAGUUAAGCUUGGGGAUGCUUGAAACGUCUCAAACGUAUCUAUAAUUUUUGAUGGUUUCAUGCCGUUAUCUUGUCAACUCUCGAUGUUUUAUAUUCCUUUUAUAUGUUUUUUGGGACUAACUUAUUAAUUCAGUGCCAAGUGCCAGUUCCUGUUUUUCUGUGUUUUUGACUCUUUUCAGAUCUGAUUUUGGAACGGAGUCCAAACGGAAUAAAAUCCCCAAAAUAAAAUUUUCCAGAACAGAAGAAGAUCGGUGGACUUGAGGGCCAAGGCAGGAGGCCCACAGGGAGCCCACAAGCCCUAACGCCACGGCCAGGGGGGCCCGCGGCGACUAGGCUUGUGGGCUCCUUGGCGCUCCUCUGCCCUAGCUCUUUCGCCUAUAUAUUCCCUAAAAUCCCAGAAAAAAUCAGGGCANNNNNNNNNNCCGCCGCCACAAGCUUCCGUUUCCGCGAGAUCUCAUCUCGAGACCCUUCCUGGUGCCCUGCCGGAGGGGACUUUGGAGUUGGAGGGCUUCUACAUCAACAUCAUCGCCUCUCCAAUGACUCGUGAGUAGUCCACUUCAGACCUAUGGGUCCGUAGUUAGUAGCUAGAUGGCUUCUUGUCUCUCUUGGAUCUUCAAUACAAAGUUCUCCAUGAUCUUCAUGGAGAUCUAUCCGAUGUAAUCCUCUUUGGCGGUGUGUUUGUCUAGAUCCGAUGAAUUGUGGAUUUGUAAUCAGAUUAUCUACGAAUUAUACUUGAGUCUUUGAUGAUUUCUUAUAUGCAUGAUUUUAUAUCCUUGUAAGUCGCUCCGAGUCUUGGGUUUUGUUUGGACAACUAGAUCUAUGAUUCUUGCAAUGGGAGAAGUGCUUGGUUUUGGGUUCAUACCGUGAGGUGACCUUUCCCAGUGAUAGAAGGGGCAGCAAGGCACGCAUCGUGUUGUUGCCAUCAAGGGUAACAAGAUGGGAUUUUAGCAUAGAUUUGAGAUUGUUCAUCUACAUCAUGUCAUCUUGCUUAGAUGCAUGCUGGAUAGCGGUCGACGUGUGGAGUAAUAGUAGUAGAUAAAGAAAGUAUCGGUCUACUUGUUUUGGACGUGAUGCCUAUAGAUAUGAUCAUUGCCAUANNNNNNNNNNCGCUUUCAUCAUAGAUUUGAGAUUGUUCAUCUACAUCGUGUCAUCUUGCUUAAGGCGUUACUGUGUUCUUAUGAAAUCAAUACACUAGAUGCAUGCUGGAUAGCAGUGGACAUGUGGAGUAAUAGUAGUAGAUGCAGAAAGUAUUGGUCUACUUGUUUUGGACGUGAUGCCUAUAGAUAUGAUCAUUGCCAUAGAUAACGUCAUGACUUUGCACGGUUCUAUCAAUUGCUUGACAGUAAUUCGUUGACCCACCGUCUACUUGCUUUCAUGAGAGAAGCCACUGGUGAACACUACGGCCCCCGGGUCUAUUCACAACUAUCGCUUCCACUUUUACUUUUACUUUGCUUUGUUUACUUUUUGCUUUCAGUUCUCACUUUGCAAACAAUCUAUAAGGGAUUGACAACCCCUUCAUAGCAUUGGGUGCAAGCUCUUUGUGUUUGUGCAGGUACUUGUGACUUGACGCGAUCCUCCUACUGGAUUGAUACCUUGGUUCUGAAACUGAGGGAACUACUUACCGCCGCUGUGCUACAUCACCCUUUCCUCUUCAAGGGAACAACAACGCAAGGCUCCAAGGCCGCGGGGGAAUCCUUUGCAUAUUUGCCAANNNNNNNNNNAGAUUGAUACCUUGGUUCUCAAACUGAGGGAAAUACUUACCGUCGCUGUGCUACAUCACCCUUUCCUCUUCAAGGGAACACCAACGCAAGGCUCCAAGGCCGCGGGGGAAUCCUUUGCAUAUUUGCCAAGGAAGUUCCUAUAGGCAUAGCCCGUAGCAGAAGGAUUCCUGGCGCUGUUGCCAGGGAGGGUCUUUUGUUGCCGUAGCAGAAGUAUUUCUGGAGCCGUUGACGGGGAGGAUCGCUUGCCAAGGAGUAUCAAGACAGGAAUAAUCUCCCAUCAACACACCUAUUUCUGGCGCCGUUGCCGGGGAGAGAUCAAGUCAAGAUCUAUCCNNNNNNNNNNAUCCCUAGAGGCGUAGCCCGUAGUAGAAGGAUUCCUGGCGCCGUUGCCAGGGAAGGUCUAUUGUUGCCGUAGGAGAAGUAUUUCUGGCGCCGUUGCCGGGGAGGAUCGCUUGCCGAGGAGUAUCAAGACAAGAAUAAUCUCCCGUCAACACGCCUAUUUCUGGCGCCGUUGCCGGGGAGAGAUCAAGUCAAGAUCUAUCCAAGUAGGUGUCACAAACUCAUCUCUUGCAUUUACCUUUUUUCCCAGUUGCCUCUCGUUUUCCUCUCCCCCACUUCACAUUUGCCGUUUUCAUUCGCCUUUUUCGUUUGCCUUUUUGGUUCACCCUUUUCUCUCGCUUGCUUUCUGUUCGCUUGUGUGCCAUGUGCCUUCNNNNNNNNNNUCCUUUUUUUGUUUGCCUUUUUGGUUCGCCCUUUUCUCUCGCUUGCUUUCUGUUCGCUUGUGUGCCAUGUGCCUUCAAUAUGUUUGCAUCUUCGCUUGCUGAAAAUCUAGUGAUAUGGAUCCUCAUCCACUUGCUAAUCUCUUUAAGAGAUCCAAUUAUGUUGAUCCAAUUGCUAGUGAGUUGAGUGCACUUAUGUAUCUUUAUGGAGUUUUGCUUGAGAUGCGUGAAUCUGAAAAUUGUGAGGAAGAAAUUUAUGAAGUGAUUGACGAGGGCUCCUUGGAUGAAAAGCAUGAUUGCAAUGGUUUCACUAUAAAUUCUAUUAGUGACAAUCAUGCUAAGAAUAUGGAAAACCCUAAGCUUGCAGAUGCUAGUUUUGCUAUGUCCCCUACUUGUUGCAAUGAUCAUGAGUGGGGCGAUGAUUUUUCUUAUGAUCUUGAAAAUUUGUUUAAGCCUCAUGAUGAAUANNNNNNNNNNGAAUGGUUUCACUAUAAAUUCUAUUAGUGACAAUCAUGCUAAGAAUAUGCAAAACCCUAAGCUUGCAGAUGCUAGUUUAGCUAUGUCCCCUACUUGUUGCAAUGAUCAUGAGUGGGGCGGUGAUUUUUCUUAUGAUCUUGAAAAUUUGUUUAAGCCUCAUGAUGAAUAUGAUAUUUGCAAUAUCAUUGAAAGUGGGUUUGGAGAAAUCAUGACUUUAGUUGAUGAUAAUCCGACUAUUUUUGAAGAGCGUCAACUUUGCAUGCAUGUGGAUCAUGAAAAGAAUAUCCUAUGUGAUAGUUACAUUGUUUAAUUCGAAUANNNNNNNNNNUAUUGAAAGUGGGUUUGGAGAAAUCAUGACAUUGGUUGAUGAUAAUCCCACUAUUUUUUAAGAGCGUGAACUUUGCAUGCAUGUGGGUCAUGAAAAGAAUAUCCUAUGUGAUAGUUACAUUGUUUAAUUCGAAUAUGAUCCCACAUGUAAUUACUAUGAGAGAGGAAAAUAUUGUGGUAGAAACUUUCAUGUUACCAAAUUACCUCUUGUUAUGUGGAGAUUGCUAUUGUCUCUUUCUUCUUCCUUGCAUAUGGUAACUAUUGGUUGUCUUGACAAUCUGUUUUCCUAUAAAAUGCCUAUGCAUAGGAAGUAUGUUAGACUUAGAUGUGAUUUUCCCAUGCUUUAUGAUGCUCUCGUUGUGCUUCAAUUCUUGUCUUUUGUGUGAGCAUCAUUGAAUUAUCAAUGCCUAGCUAAGGGCGUUAAGCAAUAGCUCUUGUUGGGAGGCAACCCAAUGAAUUUAUCUUUUUCUUUCUGUUUUGUGUUUUCCACACUUUCAUAAUUCUGUUAUGAUUGUGUUUUUUGUGUUUCUUUUGCGUUUGUGCCAAGUAAAACUGUUAUGAUUAGUCUUGGGGAUGAUCGUUUGGUCAUGCUGGAAAAGACAGAAACUUUCUGCUCACGAAAAGAAUUUUCAUUUUGUUUCUGUAAGAGCUUUUGAGUUGAUUCUUUUUGCUUCUGAUUUCUAUGCAAAUUCUUCAGACUGUCGUAAUUGGUCGGAAUUUUUGAAGUACCAGAAGUAUACGAAGUAUACAUAUUACUACAGACUGGUCUGCUGUUAAUAGAUUCUGUUUUUGUUGAGUUGGUCGAUUAUUUUGAUGAAACUAUGGAUAGUAUCGGGGGGGGGGGGGNNNNNNNNNNNNNNNNNNNNNNNNNNNNNNNNNNNNNNNNNNNNNNNNNNNNNNNNNNNNNNNNNNNNNNNNNNNNNNNNNNNNNNNNNNNNNNNNNNNNAAUUUAUUUUGCUCUAUGUGUUUCACUUCUAUCAUUUAGAGCACGGAAGCGCGUGGCGUGGUAGUUGAUCUAUGCUAUGAAAGUAGUCUCAAAAGGGGUAUUUAUCCAAAGGGAUAUGAAAACUUCCACCUUCAUGUGCAUUGAGUAGUUAGAGAAGUUUGAUUCAUCUCAAUCAGUUUUGAGUUGUGGUUGUGGUAAUAUUAAAGUUAUAUUAGUAAGGUGUAGUGGAUCUAGAAAUACUUGUGUUGAAGUUAGUGAUUCCGGUAGCAUGCACGUAUGGUGAACCGCUAUGUGAUGAAGUCUGAGCAUGAUUAGUAUAUUGAUUGUCAUCCUUUGUGUGGUGGUCGGGAUCACGCGAUGGUUUAUACCUACCAACCCUUCCCCUAGGAGUAUGCGUUGAAUGCUUUGUUUCGAUUACUAGUAGAACUUUUGCAACAAGUAUAUGAGUUCUUCAUGACUAAUGUUGCGUCCAUGGUCUAGAUGCACUUUCAGCUUCCGCCAUCACUAUCUUCUUUAGUGCCGUGCAACUUUCGCCUGUGCAUAAAACCCACCAUUAGCCUCCCUCAAAACAACCACCAUACCUACCUACUAUGGCUUUUUCAAAGCCAUUCCGAGAUAUAUUGCCAUGCAACUACCACCAUGACAUGUGCCACCACUUCUACAUUUCCAUUGCAUGAUCAUAAGAUAGCUAGCAUGAUGUUUCCAUUGAUGUCUNNNNNNNNNNUUUUUUCAAAGCCAUUCCGAGAUAUAUUGCCAUGAAACUACCACCAUGACAUGUGCCACCACUUCUACAUUGCCAUUGCAUGAUCAUAAGAUAGCUAGCAUGAUGUUUCCAUUGAUGUCUAUGCCAUGCUAGAUCAUUGUCACGGUACACUACCGAAUGCAUUCCAUAUAGAGUCAUCAUUGCUCUAAGUUUUGAGUUGUAAGUGUGAUGAUCAUCAUUGAUGGAGCAUUGUCCCCUGUGAGGACAUAAAAGAGGCCAAAGAUGCCCACCAAAAAAAAGAGGCCAAAGAGCCCACCAAAAAAAUGAGAGAAAAAGAGAGAAUGGACAAUGCUACUAUCUUUCCACACUUGUGCUUAUUAAGCACCAUGAUUUUCAUGAUUGAGAGUCUCUCGUUUUGUCACCACCGUAUAGCUAGUGGGAAAUUUUUAUUAUAUAACUUGGCUUGUAUAUUCCAAUGAUAGGCUUCCUCAAAAUUGCCUUAGGUCUUCGUGAGCAAGCAAGUUGGAUGAACACCCGCUAGUUUUCUUUAAGAGCUUUAACAUACUCUUAGCUCUAGUGCAUCAUUUGUAUGGCAAUCCCUACACAUUCACAUUGAUAUCUACCGAUGAGCAUUUCCAUAGCUCAUUCAUAUGCCUAGUCAAUGUGAACAUCUUCUCCUUGUUUGCCUUGCAACCUCCACCACACUCCACUCCACUNNNNNNNNNNAUUGGCUUUAUAUAUACAUGCAGUAGGAUUUUAUCCUACUGUCUUACACUCAAAAGAAAGCAAGCAAGUUGGAUGCACACCCACUAGUUUUCUUUAAGAGCUUUCACAUAGUCUUAGCUCUAGUGCAUCAUUUGUAUGGCAAUCCCUACUCAUUCACAUUGAUAUCUAUUGAUGAGCAUUUCCAUAGCUCAUUGAUAUGCCUAGUCAAUGUGACCAUCUUCUCCUUGUUUGCCUUGCAACCUCCACCACACUCCACUCCACUUAUAGUGCUAAAACCAAGGCUCACGGUCAUGUAUUGCGUGAGAGUUGAAAAAGUUUGAGAAAGUAAAGGUGUGAAAACAAUUACUUGGCCAAUACCAAGGUUGUGCAUGAUUUAAAUUCGUUUUGCAAUGAUGAUAGAGCAUAGCCAGACUAUAUGAUUUUGUAGGGAUAACUUUCUUUUGUCCUUGUUAUUUUGAAACUUCAUGAUUACCUUGCUAGUUUGCUUGAAGUAUUAUUGUCUCCACGUCNNNNNNNNNNGAGGUUGUGCAUGAUUUAAAUUCGUUGUGCAAGGAUGAUAAAGCAUAGCCAGACUAUAUGAUUUUGUAGGGAUAACUUUCUUUUGGCCUUGUUAUUUCGAAAGUUCAUGAUUACCUUGCUAGUUUGCUUGAAGUAUUAUUGUCUCCACGUCAAUAGAAAACUAUUGUUUUGAAUCUAAUGGAUCUGAACAUUCACGUCACAUAAGAGGAGUUACAAAGGACAUCUAUGCUAGGUAGCAUGAAAGCAUCAAAAAUUCAUUCUUUAUCACACUUCCCUACUCGAAGACGAGCAGGAGUUAAGCUUGGGGAUGUUUGAUACGUCUCAAACGUAUCUAUAAUUUUUGAUGGUUUCAUGCUGUUAUCUUGUCAACUUUGGAUGUUUUAUAUACCUUUUAUAUCUUUUUUGGGACUAACUUAUUAAUUCAGUGCCAAGUGCCAGUUCCUGUUNNNNNNNNNNUUGUGUGUUUUUGACUCUUUUCAGAUAUGAUUUUGGAACGGAGUCCAAACGGAAUAAAAUCCCCGAAAUAAUUUUUCCAGAACAAAAGAAGAUCGGGGGACUUUAGGGCCAAGGCAGGAGGCCCACAAGCCCUGACGCCGCGGCCAGGGGGGCCCGCGGCGACUAGGCUUGUGGCCUCCCUGGCUCUCCCCUGCCCUAUCUCUUUCGCCUAUAUAUUCCCUAAAAUCCCAGAAAAAAUCAGGGCAUCCACGAAAACACUUUUCUGCCGCCGCAAGCUUCCGUUUCCGCGAGAUCCCAUCUGGAGACCCUUCCCGGUGCCCUGCCGGAGGGGAGUUUGGAGUUGGAGGGUUUCUACAUCAAGAUCAUCGCCUCUCUAAUGACUCGUGAGUAGUCCACUUCAGACCUACGGGUCCAUAGUUAGUAGCUAGAUGGCUUCUUCUCUCUCUUGGAUCUUCAAUACAAUGUUCUCCAUGAUCUUCAUGGAGAUCUAUCCGAUGUAAUCCUCUUUGGCGGUGUGUUUGUCGAGAUCCGAUGAAUUGUGGAUUUGUGAUUAGAUUAUCUAUGAAUUAUAUUUGAGUCUUUCCUGAUUUCUUAUAUGCAUGAUUUGAUAUCCUUGUAAGUCUUUCCGAGUCUUGGGUUUUGUUUGGCCAACUAGAUAUAUGAUUCUUGCAAUGGGAGAAGUGCUUGGUUUUGGGUUCAUACCGUGAGGUGACCUUUCCCAGUGACAAAAGGGGCAGCAAGGCACACAUCAUGUUGUUUCCAUCAAGGGUAACAAGAUGGGCUUUCAUCAUAGAUUUGAGAUUGUUCAUAUACAUCAUGUCAUCUUGCUUAAGGCGUUACUCUGUUCUUAUGAACUCAAUACACUAGAUGCAUGCUGGAUAGCGGUCGACGUGUGGAGUAAUAGUAGUAUGCAUAAAGUAUCGGUCUACUUGUUUUGGACAUGAUGCCUAUAGAUAUGAUCAUUGCCAUAGAUAACGUCAUGACUUUGCGCGGUUCUAUAAAUUGCUCGACAGUAAUUCGUUCACCCACCGUCUACUUGCUUUCAUGAGAGAAGCCACUAGUGAACACUACAGCCCCCGGGUCUAUUCACAACUAUCGUUUCCACUUUUACUUUUACUUUGGUUUGUUUACUUUUUGCUUUCAGUUCUCACUUUGCAAACAAUCUAUAAGNNNNNNNNNNNNNNNNNNNNNNNNNNNNNNNNNNNNNNNNNNNNNNNNNNNNNNNNNNNNNNNNNNNNNNNNNNNNNNNNNNNNNNNNNNNNNNNNNNNNGACGCCCCCUGCGGCGAGCCCCCAGCCGCGCGCCCCCUGCCGCCGCCGCCCCCUGCCGGUGAGUUUUUCCUGUUUUUCUUUUUAAAAAAGUUAAUUACUUUAGUUAGUUUAUUAGGUUAGUUUUUUAUUAUAUAUAGGGUAAUUUAGUUAGUUUAUUUGGUUAGAUUAUUAGGCUAAUUAGGUUAGUUAGUUAGGUUAGAAGAAGAAAAAGCAGAAGGAAAAAAAGCAGGAGAAGAAGAAGAAGAAGAAGAAGAAGAAGAGGAGGAGGAGGAGGAGAAAGAAGAAGAAGAAGAAGAAGAAGAAGAGGAGAGGAGGAGGAGGAGAAAGAGGAGGAGAAAGAAGAAGAAGAAGAAGAAGAAGAAGAAAAAGAAUAGAAGGAGAAAAAGAGGAGGGGGAGUAGGAGGAGAAAGAAGAAGAAGAAGAAGAAGAAGAAGAAGAAGAAGAAGAAGAAAAAGAGGAGAGAGGAGAAAAAGAAAGAAGAGGAAAAGGGAACCCCGGCACCCCGAAACUGACCCUCGACCCCCGACCCCUGACGCCCGACGCCACUGACCCCCGACCAUCGACCUCCGACGCCACUGACCCCCGACCCNNNNNNNNNNNNNNNNNNNNNNNNNNNNNNNNNNNNNNNNNNNNNNNNNNNNNNNNNNNNNNNNNNNNNNNNNNNNNNNNNNNNNNNNNNNNNNNNNNNNCUCCCCCCCUUUGCCAUGUGGGGGCAGACGGCAAAGAGGGGAGAGAGAAGGGGCAGAUUCUCUCUUUGCCGUCUGCCUCCCCCCUUUGCCAUGUGGGGGCAGACGGCAAAGAGGGGAGAGAGAGGGGGCAGAUUCUCUCUUUGCCGUCUGCCUCCCCCCCUUUGCCAUGUGGGGGCAGACGGCAAAAAGGGGAGAGAGAGGGGGCAGAUUCCCCCUUUGCCGUCUGCCUCCACCCCUUUGCCAUGUGUUGGCAGACGGCAAAGAGGGGAACCAUCCCCUUUUUUAUUUAUUUUUUGUUAUAUCCAGCAUUUUUAACAAUAAUCAGGAUAUAUAUAUAUAUUUGACAUAAAUAAAUUUCUUUUCGUACCCAUAACCAUAUUAAAAUAACUCUCAUCCAUAGUGCAUACAUAUUAUGGAAGUUACAUUCGUACCAAACCUAAUAUUACACCAGUUUCAUCCACGUGCAUACAAAGUUUCAUAUAUUCAUAUACUACAACAGUUUCAAUACAACCCAUGGUACAAGAAAUCAUCUUCAAGCAUUCCAUCAACCAAGCUUCCCGUGAAGUGAAGGUAAUCUGCAAAAUGACAAAUAAGAAAGUUAGAAAAAUAAUACUAGAUGAAGUAGUGUAUAUAUAGGUUAUUUCGGAGAGAAAUUAGCUAAUUAUAGACCAUUUAGGAGCUAACUAAGCUAAUUAUGUCAUUUAGGUGGAACCCUAGCUAACUAUAGGAGAAGAGAAAGAGAAGAAGAAGUAAAAGAAGAAGGAGGAGGAGGAGAAGGAGAAGGAAGAGGAGAAGAAGAAGAAAAAGGAGGAGGAGGAGGAGGAGGAGAAGGAGAAGGAAGAGGAGAAGAAGAAGAAGGAGAAGAAGGAGAAGAAGAAGGAGAAGAAGGAGAAGAAGAAGGAGAAGGAGCUCCCGCUCCUUCUCCUUCUUCUUCUCCUUCUUCUCCUUCUUCUUCUCCUUCUUCUUCUUAUCCUUUUGUCCCCUUCUUCUUAUCCUCCUCCCUCUCCUCCUUCUUCUUCUCCUUUUUCCUCUUCCUUCCUNNNNNNNNNNNNNNNNNNNNNNNNNNNNNNNNNNNNNNNNNNNNNNNNNNNNNNNNNNNNNNNNNNNNNNNNNNNNNNNNNNNNNNNNNNNNNNNNNNNNUGUUAUUUCAAAUCUUGCAUUUGAAUGUCCGUUUCAUUAAUAAAUAAAAAGUUUGACUUGUCGAAACCAAAUGUACAGUCUAUGUGCGAGAAGAACGGCCAAGUCCCUCCGCCGAUGCCAGUCAUUAACGUGGCGGGGACGGUGAGUUUCAUUUCAGUGGAGUGAUCUUAAGAGUGUCCUCAUGCUAACUACACAUUGCAAACGAUGUUUGGUGCAGAAUAUGUCCCGAAACGCAUCGCAUGACCCUUCUACAGUCGAGCCUUCUCCAGGGCAGCCUUCUCCAGGUGAAACAAGCCAGAGCCACCGUGCUUCACCCUAACUUAGGUAUGUUAUUUCUAGUGUUUUAAUAAAAAAUAGCUAGACUUCCAUCUAAUGACAUAAUUAGCUUAGUUAGCCCCAAAAUAGCUAGACUUCCAUCUAAUAACAUAAUUGGCUUAGUUAACUCCAAAAUGGCCUAUUUAAUAAAAAAUGACCUAUACUUAGCUAAUUAUCCUCGAAAUGACAUAAUUAGCUCCAAAAAGGCAUUCUUAGCCAAUUUAGCCCGAAGAAGGGGACAAGAAGAGAAAAAGAGGAAAAAUGAAAGGAGGGAAGAGGAAAAAUAAGGAGAAGAAGGAGGACAGGGAGGAGGAGAAGAAGAAGGAGAAGAAGGAGAAGAAGGAGGAGAAGGAGAAGGAGCUCCUCCUACUCCUUCUUCUUCCUCCUUCUCCUUCUCCUUCUUCUUCUCCUUCUCCUUCUUCUUUUCUUCUUCUUCUCCUCUUCCUUCUUCUCCUCCUCCUCCUCCUCCUCCUCCUCCUCCUUAUUUUACUUCUUCCUCUCUAUCUCUUCUUCUACGUAGCUUAGACUCAUCCAAGAAAGGCUAAAUUAGCCAAUUGUCCUACGAAAUGACAUAAUUAGCUUAGUUAGCUCCAAAAUGUCCUAUUUAAUAAAAAAUGUCCUAUACUUAGCUAAUUAUCCUCGAAAUGACAUAAUUAGCUCCAAAAANNNNNNNNNNAUUUUCUUCUUCUUCUCCUUCUUCUUCUCCUCCUCCUCCUCCUCCUCCUCCUUAUUUUACUUCUUCUUNNNNNNNNNNNNNNNNNNNNNNNNNNNNNNNNNNNNNNNNNNNNNNNNNNNNNNNNNNNNNNNNNNNNNNNNNNNNNNNNNNNNNNNNNNNNNNNNNNNNCGGGGUAUGAAAGUAUAUGGGCAGAGCCUUAGCUACGGCGAGGAUAUAUGAGUUCAGGCCCCUCUACGGUGGAGGUAAAAGCCCUACGUCUCAGUGCUCUUGGGAGCUUUGUGUCGAGUGUAUUAAGGGAUUACAGCAAGUGCCAACCCUUUUAGCAGUGGUGAAGGGCGGCUUAUAUAGAGUGCGCUGCCCUUCAUAAUGGUCCGGUGGACAGGGGUGGAGUAGUGGAGAGUAAAGGCUAGCGUUACUGGUAACGUAAGCCUUAAAUGCUAGUUAUGGUGUAUGAAAACGUAUGACCGUUGCCCUCCUGGGAGGUUAUGCCGAACANGUGAAGUUGAGUCUAUCACACCCGAUUAUCACCUGUUGUCUCAAAACGACGAACUGCCGCAACGGCGCACAGUCGGGGAGAACACAACUUUAUCUUGAAAUUUUAGUAAGAGAUCACCUUAUAAUGGUACCGUCGUUUUAAGAAAAAUAAGGUGCAUAAAAGGAUUAACAUCACAUGCAAAUCAUAAGUGACAUGAUAUGGCCAUAAACUUGUGCUUCUUGAUCUCCAUCAGCAAAGCACCGGCAUGAUCUCCAUCGUCACCGGCGCCACACCAUGAUCUCCAUCAUCGUACUGCCAUCGAGGUUGUCGCGCUAACUAUGCUUUUACUAAUAAAGCUACUACUAGCGAUAAAGCAAAGCAUCACCAAGGGCAAAAAUAAUUAAAGACAACCCUAUGGCUCCUGCCGGUUGCCGUAGCAUCGACGUGCAAGUCGAUAUUUAACUACUACAACAUGAUCAUCUCAUACAUCCAAUAUAUCAUAUCAUGUAUUUGGCCAUAUCAUAUCACAUGCAUACCGUGUAAAAACGAGUUAGACGUCCUCUAAUUUGUUGUUGCAAAUUUUACGUGGUUGCUAUGGGUAUCUAUUAUGAUCGCAUCUUACUUACGCAAAGCCACAACGCUGAUAUGCAAAUUGCUAUUUAAUCUUCUCCAAGGAACACCUUGGUCAAAUCCGAUUCAACUAAAGUUGAAGAAACAAACACCCUCCAGUCAACUUUAUGCAACAAGUUGCAUGUUAGUCGAUGAAGCCGGUCUCUCGUAAGCGUACGAGUAAUGUUGGUCCGGUCGCUUCGAUCCAACAAUACCGCUGAAUCAAGAAAAGACUAAGGAGGGCAGCAAAUUGAACAUCAACGCCCACAAACUCUUUUAUGUUCUACUCGAGAUAUCAUCUACGCAUGAACCUAGCUCAUGAUGCCACUUUUGGGGAACGUUUCAUGGGAAACAAAAAAUUUCCUACACAUACGAAAGACCUAUCAUGGUGAUUAUCAUCUACGAGAGGGGAGAUCGGAUCCACAUACCCUUGUAGAUCGCUAAGUGGGAAGCGUUAAGAAACGUGGUUGAUGUAGUCGAACAUCUUCGCUAUCCAAUCACGAUCCAUCCCACGAACUGCGUCCCGAUCUAGUACUGAACGGACGACACCUCCGCGUUCAGCACACGUACAACUUGAUGACAAUCUGCGCCUUCUUGAUCCAACAAGAGAGACAAAGAAGUAGCUGAAUUCUCUGACAACACGAUGGCACGGCAGUGAUGGUGGUGGAGCUACUCCGGUAGGGCUUCACCGUGUCGUACUUAACUAGCUACGGGGUGUCACGAAGUAGUGGAGGGAGAGAGGGCUGCACAAAGACUUGGGGUGCAAAAACCCUCUCAAACCUCCACUAUAUAUAGGAGGAACAAGUGAGAGGGUGGCUUGCCUCCUACUCCAAGUAGGAGGGUUUGGACGAGCCCAAGAGGGAGGAGUCCUCCACCAAUUCGGUUUGGUGGAGGACUCCUUCCCAUCUUGUCCACCUCCUUCCUUUUAUUUUCUUUUUUACUUCUUAUUAUUGCUUUUAGCCAUUAUAGGCUUAUUGGGCUGGCCUCAACAGCCCACUAAAGGCUGGGGCGCCACCCAUGGGCCUAUUAGGUCCUAUCCCGAGUGGGUGGCCCCUCCCGGUAAAACCCCAGAACCAGUUCGUCUCUCUCGGUACUUUAGCGGUAAUGCCCGAAAUCUUUCCGAAAGCCUAUAUAUCAAUUGUUGUUUCCGGACCAUUCCGGAGACCCUCGUGACGUCCGAGAUCUCAUCUGGGACUCCAAACAACAAUCGGUUACCAACAUCAAUAAUUCAACAAUACCAAAACGUCACCGAACCUUAAGUUUGCACACCCUGCGGGUUCGAGAACUGUGUAGACUUGAUCGAGACACUCUCCAGCCAAUAUCCAAUAGCGGGACCUGGAUGCCCAUAUUUGAUCCUACAUAUUCUACGAAGAUCUUAUCGGUCCAACCUCUAUGUCAAUGAUUCAGUUAAUCCCGUGUAAUGUUCCCUUUGUCCUUCGGUAUGUUACUUGCCCGGGAAUCGAUCGUCGGUAUCUCUAUACCUAGUUCAAUCCCAUUAAUGGCAAAUCUCUUUACUCGUUCCGUAAUACAGUAUCCCGUGGCUAACUCUUUAUUCACAUUUCUUGCAAGGCUUAUUGUGAUGUUGUAGUACUAAGUGGGCCCCGAGAUACCUCUGCAUCAGAAGGAGUGAUAAAUCCCAGUCUUGAUGCACGCCAACCCAACAUACACUUUCGGAGAUACCUGUAGAGCACCUUUAUAGUCAUCCAGUUACGUUGCGACAUUUAAUACACACAAGAUAUUCCUCCGUUGUUCGGGAGUUGCAUGAUCUCAUAGUCAUAGGAAUAGAUACUUGACACACAGAAAACAAUAGCAACAAAAUGACACAAUCACAUGCUAUGUUUAUAGUUUGGGUCUUGUCCAUCACAUCAUUCCCCCAAUGAUGUGAUCUCGUUAUCCAUUGACAACACUUGUCUAUGGCUAGGAAACCUUAACCAUCUUUGAUCAAUGAGCUAGUCAACUAGAGGUUUACUAGGGACAAUAUUUCGUCUAUGUAUCUACACAUGUAUCUGUGUUUCCAUUCAAUACAAUUCUAGCACUGGAAACAGGAAAUAUAAUAAUAACUAAUUUAUAAUUGCCUCUAGGUCAUAUUUCCAAGAGAGGAAGCUCCACCAUCCAACAAGAAGAAGCUCUCAUGAGUUCGAGAAAAGAGUGGACAAGGAUUAUCCGCUGAAUCAAAUCUUCGUUGACAUACAAACUGGGAGAAUUACUCACUCUAAAACUUGUUUAGGUAACUUUUGGAGCAUUACUCAUUAUCUCUGGCAUAGAGCCUAUGAAGGUACAAGAAUCCCUUCAAGACCCAUAUUGGGUGAAUGCGAUGCAUGGAGUGUUACACAGAUUCACGAGGAAUGACGUUUUUACACUUGUGGAAAAGCCCAAGGACGAGAAAAGCGUCAUUGGUACAAAAUGGGUAUUUGGCAACAAGCAAGAUGAACAUGGUCAAUUUGUACGCAACAAGGCGUGUCUCAUAGCCCAAGGAUACACGCAAGUUGAUACGUCUCAAACGUAUCUAUAAUUUUUGAUGGUUUCAUGUUGUUAUCUUGUCAACUUUGGAUGUUUUAUAUACCUUUUAGAUCUUUUUUGGGACUAACUUAUUAAUUCAGUGCCAAGUGCGAGUUCCUGUUUUUUCUGUGUUUUUGACUCUUUUCAGAUCUGAUUUUGGAACGGAGUCCAAACGAAAUAAAAUCCCCGAAAUAAAUUUUGAGGGCCAAGGCAGGAGCCCCAUAGGGAGCCCACAAGCCGUGACGCUGCGGCCAGGGGGGCCGCGGCGACCAGGCUUCUGGCCUCCCUGGCGCUCCCCUGCCCGAGCUCUUUCGCCUAUAUAUUCCCUAAAAUCCCAGAAAAAAUCAGGGCAUCCACGAAAACACUUUUCCGCCGCCGCAAGCUUCCGUUUCCGCGAGAUCUCAUCUGGAGACCCUUCCCAGUGCCCUGCCGGAGGGGACUUUGGAGUUGGAGGGCUUCUACAUCAACAUCAUCGCCUCUCCAAUGACUCGUGAGUAGUCCACUUCAGACCUACGGGUCCGUAGUUAGUAGCUAGAUGGCUUCUUCUCUCUCUUGGAUCUACAAUACAAUGUUUUCCAUGAUCUUCAUGGAGAUCUAUCCGAUGUAAUCCUCUUUGGCGGUGUGUUUGUCGAGAUCCGAUAAAUUGUGGAUUUGUGGUCAGAUUAUCUAUGAAUUAUAUUUGAGUCUUUGCUGAUUUCUUAUAUGCAUGAUUUGAUAUCCUUGUAAGUCUCUCCGAGUCUUGGGUUUUGUUUGGCCAACUAGAUCUAUGAUUCUUGCAAUGGGAGAAGUGCUUGGUUUUGGGUUCAUACCGUGAGGUGACCUUUCCCAGUGAUAGAAGGGGCAGCAAGGCACGCAUCGUGUUGUUGCCAUCAAGGGUAACAAGAUGGGAUUUUAGCAUAGAUUUGAGAUUGUUCAUCUACAUCAUGUCAUCUUGCUUAGAUGCAUGCUGGAUAGCGGUCGACGUGUGGAGUAAUAGUAGUAGAUAAAGAAAGUAUCGGUCUACUUGUUUUGGACGUGAUGCCUAUAGAUAUGAUCAUUGCCAUAGAUAACGUCAUGACUUUGCACGGUUCUAUCAAUUGCUUGACAGUAAUUCGUUGACCCACCGUCUACUUGCUUUCAUGAGAGAAGCCACUGGUGAACACUACGGCCCCCGGGUCUAUUCACAACUAUCGCUUCCACUUUUACUUUUACUUUGCUUUGUUUACUUUUUGCUUUCAGUUCUCACUUUGCAAACAAUCUAUAAGGGAUUGACAACCCCUUCAUAGCAUUGGGUGCAAGCUCUUUGUGUUUGUGCAGGUACUUGUGACUUGACGCGAUCCUCCUACUAGAUUGAUACCUUGGUUCUCAAACUGAGGGAAAUACUUACCGUCGCUGUGCUACAUCACCCUUUCCUCUUCAAGGGAACACCAACGCAAGGCUCCAAGGCCGCGGGGGAAUCCUUUGCAUAUUUGCCAAGGAAGUUCCUAUAGGCAUAGCCCGUAGCAGAAGGAUUCCUGGCGCUGUUGCCAGGGAGGGUCUUUUGUUGCCGUAGCAGAAGUAUUUCUGGAGCCGUUGACGGGGAGGAUCGCUUGCCAAGGAGUAUCAAGACAGGAAUAAUCUCCCAUCAACACACCUAUUUCUGGCGCCGUUGCCGGGGAGAGAUCAAGUCAAGAUCUAUCCAAGUAGGUGUCACAAACUCAUCUCUUGCAUUUACCUUUUUUCCCAGUUGCCUCUCGUUUUCCUCUCCCCCACUUCACAUUUGCCGUUUUCAUUCGCCUUUUUCGUUUGCCUUUUUGGUUCACCCUUUUCUCUCGCUUGCUUUCUGUUCGCUUGUGUGCCAUGUGCCUUCAAUAUGUUUGCAUCUUCGCUUGCUGAAAAUCUAGUGAUAUGGAUCCUCAUCCACUUGCUAAUCUCUUUAAGAGAUCCAAUUAUGUUGAUCCAAUUGCUAGUGAGUUGAGUGCACUUAUGUAUCUUUAUGGAGUUUUGCUUGAGAUGCGUGAAUCUGAAAAUUGUGAGGAAGAAAUUUAUGAAGUGAUUGACGAGGGCUCCUUGGAUGAAAAGCAUGAUUGCAAUGGUUUCACUAUAAAUUCUAUUAGUGACAAUCAUGCUAAGAAUAUGGAAAACCCUAAGCUUGCAGAUGCUAGUUUUGCUAUGUCCCCUACUUGUUGCAAUGAUCAUGAGUGGGGCGAUGAUUUUUCUUAUGAUCUUGAAAAUUUGUUUAAGCCUCAUGAUGAAUAUGAUAUUUGCAAUAUCAUUGAAAGUGGGUUUGGAGAAAUCAUGACUUUAGUUGAUGAUAAUCCGACUAUUUUUGAAGAGCGUCAACUUUGCAUGCAUGUGGAUCAUGAAAAGAAUAUCCUAUGUGAUAGUUACAUUGUUUAAUUCGAAUAUGAUCCCACAUGUAAUUACUAUGAGAGAGGAAAAUAUUGUGGUAGAAACUUUCAUGUUACCAAAUUACCUCUCGUUAUGUGGAGAUUGCUAUUGUCUCUUUCUUCUUCCUUGCAUACGGUAACUAUUGGUUGUCUUGACAAUCUGUUUUCCUAUAAAAUGCCUAUGCAUAGGAAGUAUGUUAGACUUACAUGUGAUUUUCACAUGCUUUAUGAUGCUCUCGUUGUGCUUCAAUUCUUGUCUUUUGUGUGAGCAUCAUUGAAUUAUCAAUGCCUAGCUAAGGGCGUUAAACAAUAGCGCUUGUUGGGAGGCAACCCAAUGAAUUUAUCUUUUUCUUUCUGUUUAGUGUUUUCCAUACUUUCAUAAUUCUGUUAUGAUUGUGUUUUUUGUGUUUCUUUUUCCUUUGUGCCAAGUGAAACCGUUAUGAUUAGUCUUGGGGAUGAUCGUUUGGUCAUGCUGGAAAAGACAGAAACUUUCUGCUCACGAAAAGAAUUUUCAUUUUUUCUGUAAGAGCUUUUGAGUUGACUAUUUUUUCUUCUGAUUGUUACGCAAAUUCUAUAGAUUGUCGUAAUUAUUCAAAAAAUUUCAAGUACCAGAAGUAUACGAAGUAUAUAGAUUACUAUAGACUGGUCUGUUGUUAACAGAUUCUGUUUUUGUUGAGUUGGUUGCUUAUUUUGAUGAAACUAUGGAUAGUAUGGGGGGUAUUAGCCAUGGAAGAUUGAAAAUACAGUAACCCAACAUCAAGAUAAGUAGAAUUUAAGUUUUCUACAGUACCUAAGGAAGUGGUGGUUUGCUUUCUUAUACUAAUGAUAUCACGAGUUUCUGUUUAAGUUUUGUGUUGUGAAGUUUUGAAGUUUUGGGUGAACUUCUUAUGGACAAAGAGAUAAAGAGUGGCAAGAGAUCAAGCUUGGGGAUGCCCAAGGCACCCCAAGUUAAUUCAAGGAUGCCGAAAAAGUUUAAUCUUGGGAUGCCCCGGGAAGGCAUCCCCUCUUUCGUCUUCAAUCCAUCGGUAACCACUACAGGAAUCAGCUUCUUUGCCGUCUGCCAUCACAGACGGCAAAGGCAAUAUCCCGGACGGCAAAGACAAUAUCACAAACGACAAAGAUUCUCACGGGUGGCAAAAUUUCUGCGUCAGCCUACGACGGCAUAGGACCUUCUUUGCCGUCUGCCCCCCCAAAGCGGACGGCAAAGCUCUUUGCCGUCAGCUUUCCUUAGGAGCAGUCGGCAAAGUGUUCGAGACGGCAGCCGACAGGAGUUGCCUCCGUUAGGGGUUAACGGAGGCUUUGCCGUCUACCUCCCCCUCCAGCUUUGCCGUCUGCCUCCCCAUCCAUCUUUUCCAUCUGCCUUCUCUUCCCCUCCCCUCUCCUUUACCUCCAUCUUUGUCGUCUGCCUCCCCGUCCAUCUUUGCCGUCUGCCUGCUCCUCCCCUCCCCCCUCUCUCCACUCUUUGUCGUCUGCCUCCUCCUCCCCCCCUCCUCUGUUCCCUCGUCUUUGCCGUCUGCCCACCCUGGAGGCUGACGGCAAAGAGACUACAUAGACUCCCCAGGAUGCACAGCUGGGUGCCAUGUGGCACCUUUGCCGUCUGCCAGCUGAUGGCACAGGUCGUUGCCAUCAGCUGGCAGACGGCAAAGAGCCCAUAUAGUUCCUGUUUUUUUGUUUUAUAUUGUUUCACAACACACACACACNNNNNNNNNNNNNNNNNNNNNNNNNNNNNNNNNNNNNNNNNNNNNNNNNNNNNNNNNNNNNNNNNNNNNNNNNNNNNNNNNNNNNNNNNNNNNNNNNNNNAAGGUUCUUAUGCCAUUUUGAGCUUAUUAUGGUAUUUUCGAGGUAAAUGGGCUCAUUAUGUCAUUGUUGGGUUAAUUAAAGCAAGGAUAAUAUGAAAGAGGAGAAGAAAGAGGAGNNNNNNNNNNNNNNNNNNNNNNNNNNNNNNNNNNNNNNNNNNNNNNNNNNNNNNNNNNNNNNNNNNNNNNNNNNNNNNUUCUCCUCUUCUCCUCUUGUUGGAGCUAAAUUACCUAAUUAUGUCUUUUUUGAGCUAAAUGGGCUAAUUAUCCCAUUUUAGAGGAAAACAAGCUAAGUAUAUAAUAUUAAUGAGCUAACCAAGGUUCUUAUGCCAUUUUGAGCUUAUUAUAGUAUUUUGGAGCUAAAUGGGCUAAUUAUGUCAUUGUUGGGUUAAUUACCCUGGUGCAUGGACAUGCACCUACCACGCAAAGUUCGCAGGUCCAGAAGUUGCCCUUUUGGUCCAGAGGACUUUCCACGUUACCUAUACUACUUUUCAGGUUAUAUAAAACUUUUCAAUAUUUUCUACGUUUGAGGAUGGCAAUAUUAUUUAAGUUGUCCUGUUUUGCUCCACUACCAAUAAAUAUAGACGAUACAUUAUUUUGACAGACUUGAUUUCCACAAAAGAACAUGUGAUCUUCUUUGAAGUAGUCUUGAACCUAAGCAAUAAUGAUGGGCGAAUAAACUAACAGAAUCUACCACUAAAUCUACUAAUUAACUAACAGAAUCUACCACUAAANNNNNNNNNNNNNNNNNNNNNNNNNNNNNNNNNNNNNNNNNNNNNNNNNNNNNNNNNNNUUUUUUUUUCAAGCAGAAGACGGCAUACGAGAUGAGUCGUUGCGGUCUGCCUUGCCAGCCCGCUCAGAGAUGUGUAUAAGAGACAGCGGCACCAGUGGUGCCGGAGGGUUGUGGGGAACCGGGGGCGCCGGGGGUGGCCGGGCGACGGUGGCGGCGUUGGGUGUCGGGGGAGGAGAGAGAGAGAGUGGCCGUUUGAGAGAGAGAGAGGGCCGGGGUGGGGGCGGGACGGCCGUUUGAGUAGAUUCAGGACCUUUGUCGUCUGCUGGCGGACGGCAAAGGGGUCUAUACUCUUUGACGUCUGCCUCUGGCAUCUUUGCCGUCCGCCAGCAGACGACAAAGAAGGGCGUUGGUUGACCUAAGGUUCCCCGGGCCGAAUGAGCUUCUUUGCCGUCUCCUGUCCCCUUCUUUGUCGUUUGCGGCAGACAACAAAGGAUUGACUGUUGGCAAAGACCUUCUUUGCCAUCAUCCAGUUCUUUGCCAUCUGCUUUCUGAGAGCUGACGGCAAAGACACUCUUUGCCAUCAGCUAGCUGACAGCAAAGAUUAGGCACACGGCAAAAAACUGAUUUCCAGUAAUGAACGUUACUUGGGGGCUAUAUUUUAUUCACCACAUGUUAUGUGUUUUGCUUGGAGCGUCUUGUAUCGUAGGAGUCUUUUAUUUUUGUUGUGCCACAAUCUUCCUUGUUGCACACCUAGAGAGAGAGAAAUGCACUCACCGUGAUUUUGUCGAGCUUCACUUAUAUCCUUUGGUUAGACAAUUCAGCUCACAUGUGUUUCACUUAUAUCCUUUGGUUAGACAAUUCAGCUCACAUGUGUUUCACUUAUAUCUUUUGAGCUAAUUUAUUUUGCUCUAUGUGUUUCACUUCUAUCAUUUAGAGCACGGAAGCGCGUGGCGUGGUAGUUGAUCUAUGCUAUGAAAGUAGUCUCAAAAGGGGUAUUUAUCCAAAGGGAUAUGAAAACUUCCACCUUCAUGUGCAUUGAGUAGUUAGAGAAGUUUGAUUCAUCUCAAUCAGUUUUGAGUUGUGGUUGUGGUAAUAUUAAAGUUAUAUUAGUAAGGUGUUGUGGAUCUAGACAUACUUGAGUUGAAGUUAGUGAUUCCCGUAGCAUCCACGUAUGGUGAACCUCUAUGUGAUGAAGUCUGAGCAUGAUUAGUAUAUUGAUUGUCAUCCUUUGUGUGGCGGUCGGGAUCGCGCGAUGGUUUAUACCUACCAACCCUUCCCCUAGGAGUAUGCGUUGAAUGCUUUGUUUCGAUUACUACUAAAUUUUUUGCAACAAGUAUAUGAGUUCUUCAUGACUAAUGUUGAGUCCAUGGUUUAGAUGCACUUUCACCUUCCACCAUCACUAUCUUCUUUAGUGCCGUGCAACUUUCGUCGGUGCAUAAAACCCACCAUUAGCCUCCCUCAAAACAACCACCAUACCUACCUACUAUGGCUUUUUCAAAGCCAUUCCGAGAUAUAUUGCCAUGCAACUACCACCAUGACAUGUGCCACCACUUCUACAUUUCCAUUGCAUGAUCAUAAGAUAGCUAGCAUGAUGUUUCCAUUGAUGUCUAUGAUGUUUCCAUUGAUGUCUAUGCCAUGCUAGAUCAUUGUCACGGUACACUACCGAAUGCAUUCCAUAUAGAGUCAUCAUUGCUCUAAGUUUUGAGUUGUAAGUGUGAUGAUCAUCAUUGAUGGAGCAUUGUCCCCUGUGAGGACAUAAAAGAGGCCAAAGAUGCCCACCAAAAAAAAGAGGCCAAAGAGCCCACCAAAAAAAUGAGAGAAAAAGAGAGAAUGGACAAUGCUACUAUCUUUCCACACUUGUGCUUAUUAAGCACCAUGAUUUUCAUGAUUGAGAGUCUCUCGUUUUGUCACCACCGUAUAGCUAGUGGGAAAUUUUUAUUAUAUAACUUGGCUUGUAUAUUCCAAUGAUAGGCUUCCUCAAAAUUGCCUUAGGUCUUCGUGAGCAAGCAAGUUGGAUGAACACCCGCUAGUUUUCUUUAAGAGCUUUAACAUACUCUUAGCUCUAGUGCAUCAUUUGUAUGGCAAUCCCUACACAUUCACAUUGAUAUCUACCGAUGAGCAUUUCCAUAGCUCAUUCAUAUGCCUAGUCAAUGUGAACAUCUUCUCCUUGUUUGCCUUGCAACCUCCACCACACUCCACUCCACUUAUAGUGCUAAAACCAAGGCUCACGGUCAUGUAUUGCGUGAGAGUUGAAAAAGUUUGAGAAAGUAAAGGUGUGAAAACAAUUACUUGGCCAAUACCGAGGUUGUGCAUGAUUUAAAUUCGUUGUGCAAGGAUGAUAAAGCAUAGCCAGACUAUAUGAUUUUGUAGGGAUAACUUUCUUUUGGCCUUGUUAUUUCGAAAGUUCAUGAUUACCUUGCUAGUUUGCUUGAAGUAUUAUUGUCUCCACGUCAAUAGCAAACUAUUAUUUUGAAUAUAAUGGAUCUGAACAUUCACGUCACAUAAGAGGAGUUACAAAGGACAUCUAUGCUAGGUAGCAUGAAAGCAUCAAAAAUUCAUUCUUUAUCACACUUCCCUACUCGAAGACGAGCAGGAGUUAAGCUUGGGGAUGUUUGAUACGUCUCAAACGUAUCUAUAAUUUUUGAUGGUUUCAUGCUGUUAUCUUGUCAACUUUGGAUGUUUUAUAUACCUUUUAUAUCUUUUUUGGGACUAACUUAUUAAUUCAGUGCCAAGUGCCAGUUCCUGUUUUUUUGUGUGUUUUUGACUCUUUUCAGAUAUGAUUUUGGAACGGAGUCCAAACGGAAUAAAAUCCCCGAAAUAAUUUUUCCAGAACAAAAGAAGAUCGGGGGACUUUAGGGCCAAGGCAGGAGGCCCACAAGCCCUGACGCCGCGGCCAGGGGGGCCCGCGGCGACUAGGCUUGUGGCCUCCCUGGCUCUCCCCUGCCCUAUCUCUUUCGCCUAUAUAUUCCCUAAAAUCCCAGAAAAAAUCAGGGCAUCCACGAAAACACUUUUCUGCCGCCGCAAGCUUCCGUUUCCGCGAGAUCCCAUCUGGAGACCCUUCCCGGUGCCCUGCCGGAGGGGAGUUUGGAGUUGGAGGGUUUCUACAUCAAGAUCAUCGCCUCUCUAAUGACUCGUGAGUAGUCCACUUCAGACCUACGGGUCCAUAGUUAGUAGCUAGAUGGCUUCUUCUCUCUCUUGGAUCUUCAAUACAAUGUUCUCCAUGAUCUUCAUGGAGAUCUAUCCGAUGUAAUCCUCUUUGGCGGUGUGUUUGUCGAGAUCCGAUGAAUUGUGGAUUUGUGAUUAGAUUAUCUAUGAAUUAUAUUUGAGUCUUUCCUGAUUUCUUAUAUGCAUGAUUUGAUAUCCUUGUAAGUCUUUCCGAGUCUUGGGUUUUGUUUGGCCAACUAGAUAUAUGAUUCUUGCAAUGGGAGAAGUGCUUGGUUUUGGGUUCAUACCGUGCGGUGACCUUUCCCAGUGACAAAAGGGGCAGCAAGGCACACAUCAUGUUGUUUCCAUCAAGGGUAACAAGAUGGGCUUUCAUCAUAGAUUUGAGAUUGUUCAUAUACAUCAUGUCAUCUUGCUUAAGGCGUUACUCUGUUCUUAUGAACUCAAUACACUAGAUGCAUGCUGGAUAGCGGUCGACGUGUGGAGUAAUAGUAGUAUGCAUAAAGUAUCGGUCUACUUGUUUUGGACAUGAUGCCUAUAGAUAUGAUCAUUGCCAUAGAUAACGUCAUGACUUUGCGCGGUUCUAUAAAUUGCUCGACAGUAAUUCGUUCACCCACCGUCUACUUGCUUUCAUGAGAGAAGCCACUAGUGAACACUACAGCCCCCGGGUCUAUUCACAACUAUCGUUUCCACUUUUACUUUUACUUUGGUUUGUUUACUUUUUGCUUUCAGUUCUCACUUUGCAAACAAUCUAUAAGGGAUUGACAACCCCUUCAUAGCAUUGGGUGCAAGCUCUUUGUGUUUGUGCAGGUACUUGUGACUUGACGCGAUCCUCCUACUGGAUUGAUACCUUGGUUCUGAAACUGAGGGAACUACUUACCGCCGCUGUGCUACAUCACCCUUUCCUCUUCAAGGGAACAACAACGCAAGGCUCCAAGGCCGCGGGGGAAUCCUUUGCAUAUUUGCCAAGGAAAUCCCUAGAGGCGUAGCCCGUAGUAGAAGGAUUCCUGGCGCCGUUGCCAGGGAAGGUCUAUUGUUGCCGUAGGAGAAGUAUUUCUGGCGCCGUUGCCGGGGAGGAUCGCUUGCCGAGGAGUAUCAAGACAAGAAUAAUCUCCCGUCAACACGCCUAUUUCUGGCGCCGUUGCCGGGGAGAGAUCAAGUCAAGAUCUAUCCAAGUAGGUGUCACAAACUCAUCUCUUGCAUUUACCUUUUUGCCAGUUGCCUCUCGUUUUCCUCUCCCCCACUUCACAUUUGCCGUUUUCAUUCGCCUUUUUCGUUUUCCUUUUUUUGUUUGCCUUUUUGGUUCGCCCUUUUCUCUCGCUUGCUUUCUGUUCGCUUGUGUGCCAUGUGCCUUCAAUAUGUUUGCAUCUUCGCUUGCUGAAAAUCUAGUGAUAUGGAUCCUCAUCCACUUGCUAAUCUCUUUAAGAGAUCCAAUUAUGUUGAUCCAAUUGCUAGUGAGUUGAGUGCACUUGAGUAUCUUUAUGGAGUUUUGCUUGAGAUGCGUGAAUCUGAAAAUUGUGAGGAAGAAAUUUAUGAAGUGAUUGACGAGGGCUCCUUGGAUGAAAAGCAUGAUUGGAAUGGUUUCACUAUAAAUUCUAUUAGUGACAAUCAUGCUAAGAAUAUGCAAAACCCUAAGCUUGCAGAUGCUAGUUUAGCUAUGUCCCCUACUUGUUGCAAUGAUCAUGAGUGGGGCGGUGAUUUUUCUUAUGAUCUUGAAAAUUUGUUUAAGCCUCAUGAUGAAUAUGAUAUUUGCAAUAUUAUUGAAAGUGGGUUUGGAGAAAUCAUGACAUUGGUUGAUGAUAAUCCCACUAUUUUUUAAGAGCGUGAACUUUGCAUGCAUGUGGGUCAUGAAAAGAAUAUCCUAUGUGAUAGUUACAUUGUUUAAUUCGAAUAUGAUCCCACAUGUAAUUACUAUGAGAGAGGAAAAUAUUGUGGUAGAAACUUUCAUGUUACCAAAUUACCUCUUGUUAUGUGGAGAUUGCUAUUGUCUCUUUCUUCUUCCUUGCAUAUGGUAACUAUUGGUUGUCUUGACAAUCUGUUUUCCUAUAAAAUGCCUAUGCAUAGGAAGUAUGUUAGACUUAGAUGUGAUUUUCCCAUGCUUUAUGAUGCUCUCGUUGUGCUUCAAUUCUUGUCUUUUGUGUGAGCAUCAUUGAAUUAUCAAUGCCUAGCUAAGGGCGUUAAGCAAUAGCUCUUGUUGGGAGGCAACCCAAUGAAUUUAUCUUUUUCUUUCUGUUUUGUGUUUCCCACACUUUCAUAAUUCUGUUAUGAUUGUGUUUUUUUUGUUUCUUUUUGCGUUUGUGCCAAGCAAAACCGUUAUGAUUAGUCUUGGGGAUGAUCGUUUGGCCAUGCUGGAAAAGACAGAAACUUUCUGCUCACGAAAAGAAUUUUCAUUUUUUGUCUGUAAGAGAUUUUGAGUUGAUUCUUUUUGCUGCUGAUUGCUACAGAAGUUCUUCAGACUGUCUUAAGUUUUCAGAAUUUUUGAAGUAACAGAGUUAUACGGAAUAUACAGAUUGCUACAGACUGGUCUGCUGUUAACAGAUUCUGUUUUUGUUGUGUUGGUUGCUUAUUUUGAUGAAACUAUGGAUAGUAUCGGGGGGUAUUAGCCAUGGAAGAUUGAAAAUACAGUAACCCAACAUCAACAUAACUAGAAUUUAAUUUUCCUAUAGUACCUAAGGAAGUGGUGGUUUGCUUUCUUAUACUAAUGAUAUCACGAGUUUCUGUUUAAGAUUCGUGUUGUGAAGUUUUCAAGUUUUGUGUGAAGUUCUUAUGGACAAAGAGAUAAAGAGUGGCAAGAGCUCAAGGUUGGCGAUGCCCAAGGCACCCCAAGUGGAUUCAAGGAUGCCAAAAAAGCCUAAGCUUGGGGAUGCCCCGGGAAGGCAUCCCCUCUUUCGUCUUCAAUCCAUCGGUAAUGUUACUUGGGGCUAUAUUUUUAUUCACCACAUGUUAUGUGUUUUGGUUGGAGCGUCUUGUACCGUAGGAGUCUUUUAUUUAUUUUGUUCCACAAUAUUCCUUGCUGCACACUUAGAGAGAGAGACAUGCGCUCACUGUGAUUUUGUCGAGCUUCACUUAUAUCCUUUGGUUAGACAAUUCAGCUCACAUGUGUUUCACUUAUAUCUUUUGAGCUUGUUGAUUUUUCUCUAUGUGUUUCACUUCUAUCUUUUAGAGCACGGAACCGCUUGGCGUGGUAGUUGAUCUAUGCUAUGAAAGUAGUCUCAAAAGGGGUAGUUAUACAAAGGAAUAUGAAAACUUCCACCUUCAUGUGCAUUGAGUAGUUAGAGAAGUUUGAUUCAUCUCAAUCAGUUUUGAGUUGUGGUUGUGGUAAUAUUAAAGUUAUAUUAGUAAGGUGUAGUGGAUCUAGAAAUACUUGUGUUGAAGUUAGUGAUUCCGGUAGCAUGCACGUAUGGUGAACCGCUAUGUGAUGAAGUCUGAGCAUGAUUAGUAUAUUGAUUGUCAUCCUUUGUGUGGUGGUCGGGAUCACGCGAUGGUUUAUACCUACCAACCCUUCCCCUAGGAGUAUGCGUUGAAUGCUUUGUUUCGAUUACUAGUAGAACUUUUGCAACAAGUAUAUGAGUUCUUCAUGACUAAUGUUGCGUCCAUGGUCUAGAUGCACUUUCAGCUUCCGCCAUCACUAUCUUCUUUAGUGCCGUGCAACUUUCGCCUGUGCAUAAAACCCACCAUUAGCCUCCCUCAAAACAACCACCAUACCUACCUACUAUGGUUUUUUCAAAGCCAUUCCGAGAUAUAUUGCCAUGAAACUACCACCAUGACAUGUGCCACCACUUCUACAUUGCCAUUGCAUGAUCAUAAGAUAGCUAGCAUGAUGUUUCCAUUGAUGUCUAUGCCAUGCUAGAUCAUUGUCACGGUACACUACCGAAGUCAUUCCAUAUAGAGUCAUCAUUGCUCUAAGUUUUGAGUUGUAAGUGUGAUGAUCAUCAUUGAUGGAUCAUUGUCCCAUGUGAGGAAAUAAAAGAGGCCAAAGAUGCCCACCAAAAAAAAGAGGCCAAAGAGCCCACCAAAAAAAUGAGAGAAAAAGAGAGAAGGGACAAUGCUACUAUCUUUCCACAAUUGUGAUUAUUAAGUACCAUGAUUUUCAUGAUUGAGAGUCUCUCGUUUUGUCACCACCAUAAAGCUAGUGGGAAAUUUUUAUUAUAUAACUUGGCUUGCAUAUUCAAAUGAUAGGCUUCCUCAAAAUUGCCUUAGGUCUUCGUGAGCAAGAAAGUUGGAUGAAGAUGGGGAGGAACCACCUCCUCCUAAUGGCAACCCACACCCUCAGUUUGGCCCUGAGCUCACUGGUGAGCAAUUGUACCAACAGCAAGUGCAUAACUGGCUAGUUCAAAAUGCAGCUCAACCUUAGGGGGCUCCUCCUGCUCAUGAAGCCCCAUAGCAACAGGAUCAGCACAAUGGAUGGGGAGUGUGGCCAGCCUCACCACCAUAGGCACCACAAUUACCUCCUUAUGUCUACAACUUUCAAGCUUGGCUUGCUGCCCAGGGACUACAAGUGCAAGAUGGCCUGCUUCCUGAAGAUAACAUCUCAGAUAGUGCUUCCCAAGCUUGGAAUGAUGCUAUAUCCAACUCCAACAACUCUGCUAGCACCAACCUAUCUGCUGGAUCUCUGAAUCCCCUGGUGAUACACUCUCAAACACAUCAGCUGCAACACUCUGAGGGUCUUUUGAGAAUCUCCCUGGAAGUUCACAAUAGUGGAAUUCGCUUUGGCUUAUCUGAACAUGGAGAAUCAGUGCUCACCCUGCUACUAACUGAUCCAGCUCCAAGACAGCAGCUAAAUGACUUCAUCUUUAGAGCCAUCAAACCUCUAAUGGCUUAUAGAGGCCCUUGGAAUGCUGAUUAUGGUUUCAAGCAUGAAUGCAUGCAGGUGGAAGUUGCAGUUGCUCUGCGUGAUGAUGGCAUAAUAUUUAGCAACACCUAUCCUACUCUCCCCAUGAGCACUACAUCAUCUACUGUUAUCAUAGAAGCACUAUCCCCUGAGCAGGCACUGGCUCCAACUAUUGAUCCUACGGAUCCAUUGGAAAUAGAAUGCAGCAUGGAUCAGGAACUACAAGUCAGCAAGAUUCCUCUGAAGCAGAAAGGCAAAAUGAAACUGCAAGUAGAUACUUCCAACCUUCGCCGCAGCCUGAGAUCAAACAAGUAUGAUGGUUUCAAGAUCCCAUCCAUGGCAGAGGGCAAGAUCACUAAAUCCAAAGUUAAGCCCAGGAUGAUUCCCAAUAUUGCUCUUCAGGAAGUUGAUCGUGCUCUGACACUUGAGGUUCCCCCUCCUACUGCCAUCAACACCAUGCAAGCCAUUGGGACGCAGCUGUGUGCCAUACCUGAAACAGAGCUUGCAGACUCGGAGCUUCUUCGAGAAGAUCCAGGCCCGACAGAUGGCCAAGUUUGAUAUUGUGCCUGACCCACCUCCUCUUUGAAUCUCUAUGGUACUUUUGCGUAGUUGGAACGUCUUAUGUUGGAAUAUUCGUGGACUUAAUUCGCCCAAAAAACAUCUAGCUCUAUCGAAUGCUAUUCGUGACAGCAGUUGCUCCAUCAUUUGCUUACAAGAAUCGAAAAUGACCUCAUUUGAUGAACAUGCUUUACGUACAUUGUGUCCUAAACGAUUUGACAAAUUUGCAUAUAUUCCCUCCCGAGGGGCUUCUGGUGGGAUAGUCACGAUUUGGAACAGCUCUAUAUUUAUAGGAACUACAUUUGUAGAAGAGGAUUUCGUGUUAGGGGUCCAGUUCUCAUCAACACAAACUUUGCAUACCUGGAAGCUAUUGAACAUAUAUGGCCCCUGCCAAGGGGAUCAAAGGGUUUGUUUCACAUCUUGGCUCUUUGAUCUUGACAUUGUGGCAACUGAGGAUUGGUUGAUCCUAGGGGAUUUCAACUUCAUUAGGGCACCAACGAACUGCAAUCUACCCGGAGGUAACAUUCAAGACAUGUUUACGUUUAAUGAAUUCAUCAGUGAGCAGAUGUUAACGGAGAUCCCAAUCAAAGGCCGACCAUAUACAUGGUCGAACAUGCAGCUAAACCCUUUGCUCGAACAACUCNNNNNNNNNNNNNNNNNNNNNNNNNNNNNNNNNNNNNNNNNNNNNNNNNNNNNNNNNNNNNNNNNNNNNNNNNNNNNNNNNNNNNNNNNNNNNNNNNNNNGUUGGUCUUUAUUCACUUUUCUCUUGAACUUCAAAAAUUUCAGCAAAAAUAAAUUAUGUUCAGGAGGAAGUUUCAUGGUGGUUCCUCAAGUAAGAAGGGUCCCCGUCUUUCUAUUCGGGAGCCCGAUCCUUAUCAACUAAGAUAAGCACCGGUACAACCAUGUGAAUGGCCUUCCGAUGAGUUCAUGAUCGAAGCAGGCUUCAAGGAUGAGUUUGAUACACUUGUCUGCAAUGUCGGGUUAGAAGAAUUCCUCUCAAAUAAAUGUGAACAGUAUGCUUUGCUCACUGCCUCUUUCGUGUGUAGAUUUAAAUUUUUAGUUGGGCGUGACUCAUCCAUACCGUUUGACCUGUAUGAUAAAUCCUACGCCAUGGAUUUGGAGGAUUUCAAUAGGAUUUGCAAGAUACCCGAUGGGGGAAAUCUUAAAGAUCCUGCUAAGUCUUCGGUUAGAGAUUUUGUCUCUAGUAUAACUGUUGGAGAAACUAGAGACAUCACGCAAGCUACCAUAGGAAGCAUUCAUUUCCCUGGCUUGCACUACUUUUCCCUCUUCAUAGGUAAUGCAUUAACGGCAAGGUUGAACAUUGUCACCUAUGCGCAUCCGACCUUAGUAUCCUUAAGAGCGCAGUGACGGGUGACAAAAGCUUCAACAUGGGAGCUAUUAUAGCAAGGAGGAUGAAUAAGAAUGCUAUUGAUGGGGAUUUCUUUGGCGGCAUCUAUGCCACUUGCAUAGCAAAUUUUCUUGGAGUACCCAUCCGCGCAGGAGAUCCCCCGCUCCAUACAGCUUUCCUUGACCACGUCGCUAUGACACGCUACCAGUUCCUUGAGAGGGAUGAUGAAUCCCUCCUAUACCGAUUGAUAUUUAACCGGCAACGUGUUUUCCAUAUUACCCUUCCUGCUCCUGCUUUGUUUGACUUUCAGGUAAAACGGAGAUACUACAUAACCAUAGGAGAGGCAUAGGAGUAUGAGAGGGAGGCGACGGCUGCUCGUCUCUGUGAGGCAACUAUUUAGGCAGUGGCUGCAGCGCUCCCGUAUAACCCCGAUUAUGAUUUUGGGUUUUGCCAGGACCGUCCUUGGGAGUAGACCAAGCGAGGCCAAAAGCCUAAGCUUGGGGGAGUACGUGUUUGCACCAACUUUACAUUCAAGCUUAUGCUUUCACUUUGUUAGUCAGUGUUUACACUUUGCCACUGUAUUAUCCAUGCUAGUUUAUUUUCGUUUUCUUGNNNNNNNNNNNNNNNNNNNNNNNNNNNNNNNNNNNNNNNNNNNNNNNNNNNNNNNNNNNNNNNNNNNNNNNNNNNNNNNNNNNNNNNNNNNNNNNNNNNNGACCGGAGUCUGCAAACGCAGAAGAAUUUUGAAUCGGCAAGAAAUUCAUCCGCUUUGUAUUACUUCGAUGACAUUUGUUCUUUACAUUGUCUCUGUCGGCGGUUAUGUGUAGAAGUGCUUCAGUAGAUCUCCAUUCCAUGCCCGCGGCUCGUCCGUCUCCCUGUCGAGGUUGUAGAGUCGAUACGCUCCAUUGUUCCGUACCUUAGAAAUGAUGAACGGUCCUUCAUAGGCGGGAGCCAACUUGUGUGGUCUCUGUUGAUCCACUCGGAGCACCAGGUCUCCUGCUUGGAACGUGCGGCUCCUGACGUGCCGCUCAUGAAAUCGCCGCAGAUCUUGUUGAUAAAUUGUUGAACGGAUCAAUGCCAUCUCGCGCUCCUCUUCCAAAAGGUCUACUCCGUCUUGCCUGGCUUGCUCUUCUUCGGCUUCGGAGAAGAGUUCGACUCGUGGAGAGUUGUGAAGCAAGUCACUUGGAAGGACUGCCUCUGCUCCAUAAACGAGGAAAAAUGGGGAUCGUCCUGUCGAUCUAUUCGGGGUUGUUCGGAGGCCCCACAGCACCGAAGGCAGCUCGGUGACCCAUGCGCCGGCGGCAUGCCCAACUUCCCGCAGGAGUCGAGGCUUCAACCCUUAAAGAAUGAGUCCAUUCGCCCGCUCCGCUUGUCCAUUUGUUUGGGGGUGCGCAAAGGAUGCAAAAUACACUCGGAUACCUUGGCCUACGCAAAAACCUUUGAACUCGUCCGAGUUAAAGUUUGGGCCAUUGUCGGUGAUUAUGCUGUGUGGAACCCCGUAUCUGGCAAUGAUGUCUCUGAUAAAUUUGAUGGCCGUAAGGGCAUCAAGCUUCUUGAUUGGCUUGGCUUCAAUCCACUUGGUAAACUUGUCGACUGCUACCAGCAGAUGGGUGAAUCCUCCUUGGCUUGUUCUGAAUGGUCCGACUGUAUCUAAUCCCCACACGGCCAAUGGCCAAGAAAGGGGAAUUGUCUUCAGCGCGGACGUUGGCUUGUGGGACUUGUUUGAAUAGAACUCACAACCUUCGCAAUGGUCGACUAUAUCUUUUGCCAUUUCAUUCGCCUGCAACCAGAAGAAACCAGCUCUGAAUGCUUUGGCAACGAUCGCCCUUGAGGAGGCAUGAUGACCACAGGUUCCUGAGUGAAUUUCUUCCAAAAUUAACCGACCCUCCUCAGGAGAGAUACACCCCUGAAGGACGCCUGAAACACUUUCUCUGUAUAACUGGUCAUCAAUGACGGUGAAGGACUUCGACCUGCGAAUGAUCUGCCUAGCUUGGACCUCAUCUUCCGGUAACUCUUGCCUCAGGAUGUACGCAAUGAGUGGCACAGUCCAUUCGGGAAUGACAGCUAGAAUCUCCAUGACCAGGUCAACCACAGCGGGAAACUCGACUUCGAUCUGAUCUAUUGAGCUCUUCGGUUGCACAAGUUCCUCUAUAAAAGGAUCUUCUUUUACCGAGGGGAGGUGUAAGUGCUCGAGGCAGACAUCACUCGGGACAGGUCUCCGUGUGGAUCCAAGUUUUGCCAAUUCAUCUGCUGCUUGGUUUUUCAGUCGGGGAACAUGGUGAAGUUCCAUACCUUCGAACUUCUUUUCGAGCUUUCUUAUUGUGUUGCAGUAUGCAGUCAUGGUGGGGUUCCUUACAUCCCACUCCUUCAUUACUUGAUUAACCACUAGAUCUGAGUCGCCAUAGACCAUCAGGCGACGGACGCCGAGUGUGAUGGCCAUGCACAACCCGUAAAGGAGAGCUUCGUACUCUGCUUCGUUGUUGGAAAAAUCAAAAUGGAUCUGCAACACAUACUUGAGUUUAUCACCUUUCAGGGAUAUGAGCAGUACGCCGGCGCUGGAGCCAUUCAACAUCUUGGACCCAUCGAAGAACAUGGUCCAAUGAGCCGAGUAGAUGUGAGUCGGUUGCUGUUGCUCUACCCAUUCUGCCAUGAAGUCGGCAAGAGCUUAAGACUUUAUAGCUUUCUUGGCUUCGAACUUGAUGUCGCAGUAUAGCAUAUCCAUUGCUCACUUUGCCACUCGGCCUGAUGCGUCCCGAUUGUGGAGAAUUUCCGACAACGGAGCAUCAGAUAUGACAGAUACCGAGUGGUCUUGGAAAUAAUGAGCCACGUGCUUUGCAGUCAUGUAGAUCCCAUAAAUAAGCUUCUGAUAAUGGGGACACCUCUGCUUGGAAGGAGUCAGGACUUCAGAAACAUAAUAUACUGGCCGCUGAACCUUGUACGCUUUGCCUUCUUCUUCGCGUUCGACUGUCAGAAUAGUGUUGACGACUUCGUUUGUAGCCGCGAUGUACAAAAGAAGGGGUUCUUUACUGAGUGGGGCAGUAAGAACCGGCUGGGUGGAAAGCAGGGCUUUGAGGUCGUCGAAUGUGGUUUGGGCUUCGUUUGUCCACUCGAAGGUAUCCGACUUCUUCAUGAGUCGGUACAGAGGUAACGCCUUCUCGCCGAGUCGAGCGAUAAACCUGCUCAAAGCCGCUAGAAAACCUAUGAGCUUUUGUACGUCAUGUACUCUUACCGACCGCUCCAUUCGAACAAUGGUCCCGAUGUUUUCGGGGUUGACAUCGAUCCCUCGUUCGGAAACAAAGAAACCGAGUAACUUCCCGCUGGGAACGCCAAAUGAACACUUGGCUGGGUUUAGCUUGAUAUUGUACCUACGUAGGUUGGCGAAUGUUUCUGCCAAGUCAGUCAGUAGGUCGGAACCUUUGCGUGACUUGACUACGAUAUCGUCCAUAUAUGCCUCCACAUUUCGACCAAUCUGGUCUAGGAGGCAUUUUUGGAUCAUUCGCAUAAAAGUUGCUCUUGCAUUUUUCAAACCGAAUGGCAUAUUGAUGUAACAGAAGCACCCGAAUGGGGUGAUGAAAGAUGUUUUUAAUUCAUCCGGACCAUAUAGACGGAUCUGAUGGUAGCCCGAAUAGGCUUCAAGGAAGGAUAAGCGCUCGCAACCCGCAGUCGAAUCAACGAUUUGAUCUAUGCGGGGGAGCGGGAAGUGGUCUUUCGGACAGACCUUAUUAAGGUCCUUGAAAUCGAUGCACAUACGAAGAGACUUGUCCUUCUUGGGCACCAUGACAACAUUAGCGAGCCACUCGGAGUGGUGUACCUUGCGAAUGAAGUUGGCUGCCAGAAGUUUAGCUACCUCCUCUCCGAUUGCUUUUCUCUUGUGCGCGGCAGACCGACACAGUCGUUCUCGGACGGGCCGAGCGGCAGGAUCCACAUGCAGUCGGUGCUCAGCCAACUCCCUGGGUACACCUGGCAUGUCAGCAGGCUUCCAUGCAAAAAUGUCCCAGUUCUCAUGAAGGAAUUGGAUGAGCUCGGUUUCCUAUUUUGGAUCAAGGGUGGUGGAGAUGUUUGUUGGGGCGGUGGUGGCAUCCGUCGGGUGGACUCUUACUUUUUUCGUGUCUCCCGCCGACUGGAAUGCGGACUCGGAAGCUGGCUUCUUUGAACGCAUCAGGUCGGCAGGGUCGGCAAUCUUCUUGUACUCAUCCAACUCGAGUACAGCCAUCUGAUGGUCUGCAAUUCUCAACCCCUGCUGCAGACACUCCUCGGCUCGUUGCCGAUUGCGUGUGACAGUAAUCACGCCUUUGGGACCAGGCAUCUUCAGCUUCAAAUAUACGUAACAUGGACGGGCCAUGAAACGUACAUAUGCCGGACGGCCCAGAAUGGCAUGGUAUGCACUCUGGAAGUCUACCACCUCGAAUGUUAACUUCUAUUUGCGGAAGUUCUUGUCAGAGCCGAAGACGACGUCCAACGCAAUCUGGCUGAGAGAUUUUGCCUUUCUUCCUAGGACGACUCCAUGGAAUUGCAUACUGCUUUCGCUAAGUCUGGACAUCACAAUGCCCAUUCCCUUGAGAGUAUCGGUGUACAUGAUAUUCAAGCCGCUGCCGCCGUCCAUGAGGACUUUGCGCAGCCUAACUCCUUCCACCACCGGGUCGACGACCAGAGCUUGCCUCCAUGGGGUGGGUACGUGUGCUGGGUGGUCUGCCUGAUCAAAAGUGAUUGCAGUCUGUGACCACUUGAGGAACGUGGGAGUGGAUGGGGUUGCCAUGUUUACCUCCCUGCUGACCAGCUUCAGUCGACUUUUGCUUUCUACAUCAGCAAAAAUCAUUAAUUUUGCAUGGACUUGAGGGAACGGAUCCUCCUUGUCCUCAUCAUCUUUCUCGGUGUCUUUCUCACUCGGCUGUCCUUCACCGAAUCCUUGGAUCAGGAGGCGACACUACCGAGUGGUAUGUUUCGGCAAUAUGACAUUGCCUUCUUCAUCCAUCUUCGUGUGGAUUGGACACGGCUGAUCUAGGAUGGAAUUUCCUGACUGUUUCUUCUUGGGGGUGUACUGUGGUUUCCCCUUGCCUUUGAACUUAGCGUUUGUAACGACUGCCGCCUCUGCUUGCGGAGUGGAUUGGGCUUUCUAUUUCUGCUUCCGACUGCUGCUCCCAUCUCCGUCGGCGACUGACUUAUGCUUGCCGCUACGUAUGCGGUCCUCCUCUUCGCCAUUUGCAUAGCACGCAGCUAUCUCCAUCAUCUUGCUCAUGGAGAUGUCGCCUGUCCGACCAAACUUCAGGUAUAGAUCUUUGUACCGAACGCCUGCCUUGAAGGCGCAGACUGCUUGGUGUUCUGUAACAUUCUCCACCGUGUGGUAGAGGGUUGUCCAGCGUUGGGUAAAAUCGCGCAGGGGCUCGUUUUGCUUCUGGACACAGUGCUGAAGCUUUGUGAGACCAGCGGGGCAUUUGCACGUACCCUUGAAGGUCCUGAUGAAGACUCGGGACAGAUCUGCCCAACUCGAAAUGGUUGAUGGAGCUAACUGGUUUAGCCAAGCUCGAGCCGAACCGUCGAGCAUCAAUGGGAGAUGUUUCAGGGCGACAUGGUCAUCUCCGCCACCGAUGUGGACCACCACUCUGUAGUCGUCUAACCAAGUUUCUGGUUUGGACUCUCCUGUGAAUUUGCUGAAUCCCGUCGCCAAUCGGAAGUUGGGAGGGAUGUCAGCCGAGCGAAUGGCCCGACUGAAACACUCGGGACCAGAAACAACGGUCCUGCUUCCACUCGGAUGAUCUCUAUCGUGACCACCACGGUGGGCUCGGCUUCUAUCAACCUUCUUUUGAGUGAUAUACCCUCUUGCAUCAGGCCUUUGAUCAUGCGCGUCACCGCCCGAACGACAAUCAUCGUAAUGCGGGGGUCCGUAAGGCCCACUCCGCCGAGGAGUACGCGAACGGCGAUGAUCUUCGGGAUGAGACCGAAUGGAAGGUGGAUUCCGACUCUGGUCCCUGGAAUGAUCGUUCCAGAGGCUGCCCCCUCUGCGACGCUGGUGAGAGCUGGGACUGAAAACCGACCGAUGUGUGUUCGCUUGAACGGAACUGUUGUGGAUCUUGUUGUGCGACUGGGAGACCGCCGAGUUUUGCUGCUGCACCGUAUGUAACAAGGCACGGAUCUGCUCAAUUCCUCUACCAGCCUCUGAAUCAGUCGGCUGGAGAGAAUCAGUGAUCUUGGCGGCUGCAGCCAAGUUGAGGAUGGGUGUGCGGAACACCUCGACGUGGCUCUGGCGAACGCGUCGACUGGAAGAACGAGGGUGCUGACGACGAGCGCCGGAUGAUUCUCCGAUCUCACGCUCGUUCCGACCAGUCCCGGGCGACUUUUGUGGGAAUCGGCCAUGAGCACUUCGGCCGUAGGCCCGUGACCCUGAUACUCGGAAGGUAGUUCAGUCGGAAAUGAGUCCAAGCACUGGGAUGACCGCGGGACCACAACCGAUUCAAGCACCACCACUUGAGAGGACAUGUUUUGUCGCGCUAGGGCGUGUCGCACCCAACGCUGGAGCCCCGAACGACCGGAUAGCUUGUUGCGGUGCGUGACGGGGGCGAAGAUCGAAACCGGGGUCGAUGGCUGGACAAGAAGAACACCGCAGGAACUGGCACGGAAGUGCGUAGCCCCGCGACUCGGAAGCGUCUUGACAUCGAGGGGCGCAUCCUGAUGCCAUGCCGAAUCAUCAGCGAUGAAGGAGAGCGCACCGAAGAGGAUCUCACGACCCAUGCACAGAUCUCCGCCGGAUGACAUGACGAAGAGAUGAAAUCACAAACUCGCCGGAAGUCGCUUAUACGCCAGCCCCACGGUGGGCACCAACUGUCGUGGGUAUAAGUCUGGCAGUAGAAGUACGGGGUAUGAAAGUAUAUGGGCAGAGCCUUAGCUACGGCGAGGAUAUAUGAGUUCAGGCCCCUCUACNNNNNNNNNNNNNNNNNNNNNNNNNNNNNNNNNNNNNNNNNNNNNNNNNNNNNNNNNNNNNNNNNNNNNNNNNNNNNNNNNNNNNNNNNNNNNNNNNNNNGCCUUUGGCGGCGAGCUCCCUCUCUCUCUCGAUCAAUUUUCUCCCCCGUCGCGUUUGUAGCGGCGCUUGGCAAAGCCUCGCUGAGGUUGUACCACCACCACCGUCACUAGUAGAAAACAGGGCAUUGAGCCAACCACAUUGGACCCGGAUUGGAUAUAAACCGGUUCUAAAGGGUCUAUCCGCUGGGCCCCCUCCCUGCAGCGAAUGGCCGCAAGGCCUUUAGGACCGGUUUGUAACACAAACCGGUCCUAAAGGGUUUUGGACCGUUUGCUGCAGGGCGGGGACCCAGUGGACAGACCCUUUAGAACCGGUUUGUAUCACAAACUGGUGCUAAAGUUUUUCUCAUUUUUGCAGCAACUGCGGGGCCCCGUUGUCAGACCCUUUAGCACCGGUUUUUAACACAAACCGGUCCUAAAGCCCUCCCCUAUAUUCCACUCCGAGCUCAGCUCCAUUUUUUCCAGCGCGAGCUCAACUCCAUUUUUGCUCUCUCCUUCCUCUUGGGAGCUCUAAUCCAUCCCCAUUUUUCUCCACCAUUUGUCAAGAUUGUUGGCACCCAUCGGUCCUACGGUUAACAUCAACAUUCCCUCUUCCGGCAUUGCAAGUUUUGCUCGUUUUCUUGCUCAUUUCAUUUUUGUUGUGCUAGCUAGGUGUUUGAUGAAAUGCCUAAGCUAGAGAGAGUUCAUCAUUUGUUAUGUAUACAUAUGCAAUUUGAGCUCAAAUUUAAUUAUGAUUUAUGGUUUUUUUUAGUGUCGCGCGCCUUGUCCCCUUCCUCACCGCCGUCGAUCGCCCCGUCACCGACACAACCUUGGUGAGCCUAGUGUUUUUAUUUACCAAAACAAAUUAUGAUUUGUAUGAUUUACAUAUUUACUUGUAUAUAAUUUUCUUAUUGUGUAAGAUUUUUUUUAUAUGUAUAGCGCCAUGGUUUUGAUAUCCGUCCCCGUUGGCCCUCGUCCAGUCUAUGAUUCGGAUGUGGUAUAUUAUCUUUUAUAACUACAUAUUUUCAUUUCCUGAUUAUAUGACAAUUAAUUACGCCGACCAACUUGACAUAGAUAUUUUUAUCUAGGAGGUAGUGGAACCGGAAAUGCCAAUCGACCCUAUUGUUGAGAAGUUACACUUAGUUGAACAAGAAAAUGUUGGCCUGAAAGAAAGAUUGAAAAAAACUGAAGAAAGGUUGGAAAAAACUGAAAGAGAGAAGAUGACCUUGGAAAAGGUUCUUGCCGGUGUCGUCGAUGGUCACAAGAGCGAGAUGGACGCAAUGCGCCUGAAGAUUAGAAAGAUUAGAAAAUAUGCAAUUAGUAAAGAGGCUUCGUAUCAUUAGGCCGUCGGGUCAAUUGUUACCUUUGUUGCGAUUUUGAUCGCAUUUGUUGUUGUUUUUAAAUGCAUUAGUUAGAGAGAGUUUUUAUGGUUGGUUUCAGUGUGUAUUUUUAUGAGAACUAUAUAUGUAUGGUCACUACGCUACUUUGGUUUUAACGUGUGAUGAACUUUUUGUAUUAAUUAAUUAAUUUAGUCAUGAUGAUUUAGCAUAAUGGUUUUUGAUAAAUUUAUAUAAUGCAGAUGAACCGGCAAUGGAUGUACAGUGAUCGACGUCGUCCCGAAUUCCUUAAUGGCAUGCAUAGUUUUCUCAAUGUGGCUGAGAAAAACAGGCAGAAUGGAUUUAUUUUUUGUCCAUGUAAAAAAUGCCAGAAUAAGAGGAAUUUCCCUAACUCAAGAACCAUACACACCCACCUGUUGCAAGAAGGCUUCAUGCCCAGUUAUUUUUGUUGGACCAAGCACGGAGAAAGAGGGGUUGUAAUGGAAGACAAUGAAGAAGAAGAGGAUAAUGAUAACUAUCCUAUGUUCGGUGAACACGGUGAUACUGAAAUGGGGGAAGACGAGCCUGAACUUGAGGACAUUGUUGAUGAGUCUGAUGAUGAUCUUCGUCAGGUCAUUCGUGAAGAACAGAUAAACUGCGGAAGUGAAAACGAGAGGUUGAAGUUGGAGCGCAUGUUAGAAGAUCACAAAAAAUUGUUGUACCCAAAUUGCGAAGAUGGCCAGAAAAAGUUGGGCACCACCCUGGAAUUGCUGCAAUGGAAGGCAGAGAAUGGAAUAUCUGACAAGGGAUUUGAAAAGCUGCUGAAAAUAAUGAAGAAGAUGCUUCCAAGAGAUAACGUGCUGCCCUGCAGUACGUACGAAGCAAAGAAGGUUGUCUGCCCUCUAGGAUUGGAAGUGCAUAAGAUACAUGCAUGCAUCAAUGACUGCAUCCUCUACCGCGGUCAAGACGAGAAUUUAAAUGCGUGCCCGGUAUGCGGUGCAUUUCGGUAUAAGGUCAGGCGAGAUGACCCUCGUGAUGUUGUGGGCGACGAUCGCCCCAGGAAGAGGGUUCCUGCCAAGGUGAUGUGGCAUGCUCCUAUAAUACCACGGUUGAAACGUUUGUUCCGAAACAAAGAGCAUGUCAAGUUGCUGCGAUGGCACAAAGAAGACCGUAAGGAAGAUGAUAUGCUGAGACAACCCGCUGAUGGGUCGCCGUGGAGAAACAUCGACGAUAAGUACGAGGACUUUGCACGUGACCCAAGAAACUUAAGGUUUGGUCUAAGUACAGAUGGCCUGAAUCCGUUUGGGGAGCAGAGUAGCAGUCAUAGCACCUGGCCCGUGACUCUAUGUAUCUAUAACCUUCCUCCUUGGUUAUGCAUGAAGCGUAAGUUCAUUAUGAUACCAGUGCUUAUCCCAGGCCCGUCGCAACCCGGCAACAACAUUGAUGUGUACCCGAGGCCACUGGUUGAUGAACUUUUAGAGUUGUGGGCUGACGAAGGUGUACGUGUGUGGGACGAGUACAAACAGGAGGAAUUUGACCUACGAGGGUUGUUGUUUGUAACCAUCAAUGAUUGGCCCGCUCUUAGUAACAUCUCAGGACAGUCAAACAAGGGAUACAGCGCAUGCACACACUGUUUAGGCGAGACUGAAAGUAUACAUAUAUGCAAGAAUGUGUACCCAGGGCAUCGUCNNNNNNNNNNNNNNNNNNNNNNNNNNNNNNNNNNNNNNNNNNNNNNNNNNNNNNNNNNNNNNNNNNNNNNNNNNNNNNNNNNNNNNNNNNNNNNNNNNNNAGCCGGCGAGGAGGCGAGGGCGGCGAGGAGGCGACGGCGUGGGGCGGCAAGGAGGCGGCGUGGGGCGGCGAGGAGGCGGCGAGGAGGUCGAGUCGGCGAGGAGAGAAGGCGAGGAGAGAGGCGGCGAGGAGAGAAGACGCGCGGGAAGGCGAGAAGAUGGCGGCACCGGAGAGGUCUAGGCUGUACAAGCCUUUAGCACCGGUUGGUGUUGACAACCGGUCCUAAAGACCCUUUAGCACCGGUUGUUAACACAAACCGGUACUAAAGGUCCAAAAAUUGGGCGCGCGAGCGAACCCACCUUUAGGACCGGUUGUUGUUAAAAACCGGUCCUAAAGGUUUUUUUUCUUUUUCUUUUUUCCUUUUUUCUGUUUCCUGUUUUCUUUUUCUUUUUGUUUCCUUUUUCUUUUUCCUGUUUCUUCUUUUAUUUUUAUUUUUUGUUUCCCUUUUCUGUUUUCUUUUUACAUUUAUUUAUAAAAUCAAAGUAAACUCAAAAAGCUUUUGUAAAAUCAAAUAUUUAUAAAAACAUAUUUAUAUUUUCUGAUAAUUUGUGUAAAAAUUCUCUAAAUGUCAUUUAAAAGAAUAAAAAAAUAAAAAAUAAGAUAUUUAUCAAACUAAUUUGAAAAUAUAAAGAUAUUUUUUUGUUUCCUUUUUCUUUUUCCUGUUUCUUCUUUUAUUUUUCUUUUUUGUUUCUUUUUUCUGUUUUNNNNNNNNNNNNNNNNNNNNNNNNNNNNNNNNNNNNNNNNNNNNNNNNNNNNNNNNNNNNNNNNNNNNNNNNNNNNNNNNNNNNNNNNNNNNNNNNNNNNAAACCCUUAAGGCCGUAAAACUUAGGGAAACUUUCGGGUAACGGGGGAAACUUUACGGUUACGGGUAACGGAACUUUGGAAACCCUACCGGGUUAAAUCCCUAAGUAACCCACGAACCUAGAAAUACGNUAGAAUGACUUCAAUGCUAGGAAGCAUGGUAAAGAAAGUAGAGCCAUGGGUUCAGAGACCUAUGUCAUUUCCUCCUAAGCCAUCCMAGAAAAAGGAUGAUGAGGAUUUUGAGCGCUUCGUUGAGAUGAUAAGACCCGUAUUUCUGCAGAUGCGGUUAACUGAUAUACUCGUCUCUGUAUGCCAAGUACAUGAAAGAUAUCGUGACUAAUAAACGGAAGUAUACCAGAUCUUGAGAUCUCCACCAUGCUUGCCAAUUACUACUUUUAAAGGUGGAACUCCUAAGAAACUUUGUGAUCCCGGAGUGCCCACUACACCUUGCUCCAAUUAAGGAACUACGUAAGACUGCCUUAUGUGACCUUGGAGCCGGUGUUAGUGUUAUGCCGCUCUUCUUUAUCUACUAGUACUUGGUAGGUUAGGUUAAGUUAAAGGUUUACGGUAACCUACCCCCGUAACCNNNNNNNNNNNNNNNNNNNNNNNNNNNNNNNNNNNNNNNNNNNNNNNNNNNNNNNNNNNNNNNNNNNNNNNNNNNNNNNNNNNNNNNNNNNNNNNNNNNNGAAGAAGAAGAAGAAGAAGAAAGAAAGAAAGAAAGAAGAAGAAGAAGAAGAAGAAAGAAAGAAAGUAAAGAAGAUAGAGAGAGAGAGAGAGACGAGAGAGAGAGAGAGAGAGAGAGUAGAGAGGAGGAGAGAAGAAGAAGAAGAAGAAGAAGAAGAGGAGGAGAAGAAAGAGGAAAAAAUGAAAAGAAGGAAGAAGAAGGAAGAAGAGAAGGAGAAGAGAAGAAGAAGAGAAGAAGCAUGAGAACGAGGAGGAGGAGAAGGAGCCCUCCUUCUUCUCCUUCUUCUCUCAUCCUUAUUCUUCUCCCUCCUUCUUCUCCUUCUUCUUCUGCUUCUUCUCACCUCCUUCUUCUCCUUCUUCUUCUCCUUAUUCUUCUCUUCUUCUCCUCCUCCUCCUCCUUCUAAUUCUCCUCCUCCUCCUUCUCCUUCUCAUCCUUCUCCUUCUUCUUCUCUUCUUGCUUCUUCUCUUUCUUCUUCUACGUAGCUUAUUUUCCCCAACAAAGACAUACUUAGCUAAUUAUCCUCCAAACUAACAUAAUUAGCUUAGUUAGGGUAAAAACAUCCUAAGAACCUUGGUUAGCUCACAACUUAGGUAAUUAUCCUCCAAAAAUGAUAUAAUAAGCUUAAAAUGGCAUAAAAACCUUGGUUAGCUCAUGAAUAUUAUAUUCUUACCUUGUUUUCCUCUAAAAUGACAUAAUUAGCCCAUAUAGCUCCAAAAAGACAUUAUUAUAUAAUUUAGCUCCAACAAAAGGAGAAGAGGAGAAGAAGAGAAGAAGAAGAGAAGAAGAGAAGAAGAAAAAAUAAGAAGAGAGAAAAAUAAAGAAAAGAAGAAUAAGUAGAAGAAGUGGAUAAAGAAAUAAUAGAAAUAGAAAUAAGAGGAAGAAGAAGAAGAAGAGGAGGAAGAAGAGGAGAAGAGGAGAAGAGGAGGAGGAGGAGGAGAAGAAUAAGAAGAAGAGGAGAAGAGGAGAAGAAAUAGGAAAAAUGAAAAGAAGGAAGAAGAAGAAGAAGAGAAGAAGAAGGAGAAGGAUCCUUCCUUCUUCUCCUUCUUCUCUCUUCCUUCUUGUUCUCCCUCCUUCUUCUCCUUCUUCUCUCCUCCUUGUUCUCCUUCUUAUUCUCCUUCUUCUUCUCUUCUUCUUCUCCUCCUCCUCCUUCUCAUUCUCCUCCUCCUCCUUCUCCUUCUCCUCCUUCUUCUUCUCUUCUUGCUUCUUCUCUUUCUUCUUCUGCGUAGCUUAUUUUCCCGAAUUAAGACAUACUUAGCUAAUUAUCCUCCAAAAUGACAUAAUUAGCUUAAUUAGGGUAAAAACAUCGUAAUAACCUUGGUUAGCUCAUAACUUAGCUAAUUAUCCUCCAAAAUGACAUAAUAAGCUCAAAAUGGCAUAAAAACAUUGGUUAGCUCAUGAAUAUUAUAUUAUUAGAUUGUUUUCCUCUAAAAUGACAUAAUUAGCCCAUAUAGCUCCAAAAAGAACAUAAUUAGAUAAUUUAGCUCCAAAAAGAGGAGAAGAGGAGAAGAAAUAGGAAAAAUAGAAAAGAAGGAAGAAGAAGAAGAAGAAGAAGACAAGAAGAAGGAGAAGGAGGAGGAGGAGAAGAAGGAGAAGGAGGAGAAGACCUUCUCCUCGUUCUCCUCCUUCUUCUUCUCCUUCUUCUUGAUUUCUUCUUCUUCUCCUCCUCCUCCUCUUUGUUCUCCUCCUCCUCCUCUUUCUUCUCCUCUUUCUUAUUCUCCUUACCUUAUUUUCCCCAACAAUGACAUAUAUAAUUAGCCCAUUUAGCUCCAAAAUGACAUAAUAAGCUCAAAAUGGCAUUAGAACCUUGGUUAGCUAAUGAAUAUUAUAUUCUUAGCUUGUUUUCCUCUAAAAUAUCAUAUGUUGUUCUUCUUCUGACUUUCUUAUUCACAUUUCUGCAGAUUGGAUGUACUACAUGCAUGGAAGCUGGCAUUCAUGGAGUGCCUUAUUAGUUCUAGUUUUAAUUUGAGUUGAUGAACAAUGUCGAACUAUAUGUAUAUGUAUCUAUGGAUGAACAGUGUAAAACUUUGUAUGUUGGUUCUUUCGAUAUAUGGGAUGUACAUUGGUGAACUUUGUAUGUAUAUCAUAUAUGUGUGGUGAACUAUAUAUAUGUGUUGUGAAAUAUAUAUCAUAUAUGUGUUGUGAAAUAUAUAUAUAUAUAUAUAUAUAUAUAUAUAUAUAUUAUAGUAAAUAAACUAAAACAAAACGAAARUAAAKWAACUAAUAGUACGGUACGUUCGUUUCGUUCUCGUCGUUCGNNNNNNNNNNNNNNNNNNNNNNNNNNNNNNNNNNNNNNNNNNNNNNNNNNNNNNNNNNNNNNNNNNNNNNNNNNNNNNNNNNNNNNNNNNNNNNNNNNNNACCUUUGGUGCCGGGUUGAUCUUGCAGAACGGCUUAAGACCUAUUUGGCCGCACUUGGCCAUGAGUUCGCCGGUCAAUUUCUUGAUGAUGGUUACAAUAUCAUUUUCUGUCAGUGCUGUGUGGAAGUAGCACUGGGAGUGAUCCAGGGUACCAUCAAAAUCACACAUUAAUCCGUCCCAGCGACUUAAGGGAAGGAUACGCCAUUCGACCCAGCAGCAGAUUAAGUCAACCCCAGUAAGGCCAUUGUUUGUCAGAGAUCUUAACUCGGACAGUACUGGGAUAAAAUCUGACUCCUCUUCUUCUUGGCAGUCUCAGGCUGCAUUUCGCUCAGCCCGUGUGACCUGUGAAGGUCCUCUUGCGCCUUGCCUGUUAGGCUGCCUACGCUGCCAUGAGCUCAUUAGUCUUGCUCUUCAGCUUGAGCUUCGAUAUCACACACUUGGCGCAUGCACUCAGACUUGAMMCACUCCAGCUAUCUCAUAGACUGUCUUUGUCUCGAAGGUCCAUCCCAGUUUUGCUCCUCCUGGUACCUCUAUCUUAGCCACCUCUAAGCGCCAUCCGCAAGGCCAAGGGUCUCUAAUCUCUACGGUCAGGGACUUCGACAUCUUCCAUUCUAUGUCACUGGUGGAUGAGGGCUCGUUUUCAAAACUUCAGUUCAAUGGACUGCCAAAGUCCACCGUAUUGGCAUUGCCUGCCUAUGCUCNUUCCGAAUUUCAUCACCUGCUAGGUCCUUGGACGUCCCUUNNNNNNNNNNNNNNNNNNNNNNNNNNNNNNNNNNNNNNNNNNNNNNNNNNNNNNNNNNNNNNNNNNNNNNNNNNNNNNNNNNNNNNNNNNNNNNNNNNNNGGCGGUGAGACGCCGGAGAGAGGGGGUGGUUGGGCAUCGGAGGAAGGGCUGAGUGGUGGUGGGCGCUGGAGGGUAGGGGCUUUGCCGCCGGCGACCUGAUCGGGAGGGUGGCCGGUGGUGCAUUGGAGGAGGGGGGUGGUGGUCGGGACGAGAGAGGAGUCGGGGGCCGAGAGUGGUGGUCGCGACGGGGGAGGAGUCUGGGUACGAGAGAGAAGAGAGGUGGUGAGAGGAUAAGGUCGGGUGGAGGUGAGUGGUGGGCCAGCCGAGUUGAGUGGAUGCGGUGGAUCCUGGGUGGGAGAGGCAGCGACGGUGGGAUGGGCCGCCACGUCAUCGAUCCAUGGGAUCGAUCCGCGUGGUGUGCUUUCUCUUUGCCGUCAUCCGGUUAUUUUUCAAGACGACAAAUUAAGUCGUUGCCGUCAUCCGGUUUUUUUACAGACGACAAAAUAUUUUUUCACCACGUCCGUGCGUGGUGGUGUAGGUGGGGGUUGGGUCGUCGGUCGUGUACGUCUACGUAGUCCUUUCCCAACGUCCAUUCNNNNNNNNNNNNNNNNNNNNNNNNNNNNNNNNNNNNNNNNNNNNNNNNNNNNNNNNNNNNNNNNNNNNNNNNNNNNNNNNNNNNNNNNNNNNNNNNNNNNACUUGGAGAUGAAGUCGCCAGCUUGGGUAGAACCCGGCCCAAACUAGGCGGGUUACCAACCAGAUAAUUAUCCCCCUAACGAUUUAGGCCCCCAGAUUGACUUGAAUUUUUUUUCACCGCCAAAUAUUUCUCACCCACGUUAGGGCGAUUCAUCUCAAUCCUUUUACGAACCAUGCACUUAAAACCGCCAUCUGUUGCGGAAAAAACUUCAAGUCGCCGAACCACUUCUUGUUGGCGCCUUCUUAGUCCCUUUAACCUCGGAAGAGAUGAUUGACGUAAUCUCCAACGGAUCCUUCGGUUAUUGCUAUCCCGAAAAUUUUGGGGCGCCAUCAUGGCGAAUCUUUAUCUUUUUUGGCAGUUACCCACUCGUGGCGCCCUCGAUCCCAGCGCCUGACCUUGCCAUGACAAAUGAAGAUGAUAUGUGUCACAAGUGCACACUUGAAGUUUGCCAUCAUGUUCUAACUUCUAUGCCGGUGGCUGUGGAGGAACAAGUGUGUCGUGACGAGGGUGGUGUUGGCUAAUUGAGGUAUGAACCNNNNNNNNNNNNNNNNNNNNNNNNNNNNNNNNNNNNNNNNNNNNNNNNNNNNNNNNNNNNNNNNNNNNNNNNNNNNNNNNNNNNNNNNNNNNNNNNNNNNAAAAAAGGACUCUUGUAAAACCCUAAGGGACUUUGACCCUGUAUAUGAAGGGCGAGUCCCAGGGGAAGGAGAGGGGGAGGUUAGAAAUCAUCGAGUGCUUAGGGUCAGGCGAGUUACGCCCCCCUUGUAAUCGAAAACACCAUCAAUACAAAACACCAAAMCAGGGACGUAGGCCUUUACCUCCUAACGAGGGGCCGAACCUGGGUAAAUCUCUGGCCUCGCUCCCCGCAUAMCCCCUUUUGAGUUGCCACCAAGAUGCGAUGGGCUCCAACACUAAGUACUUUCACGAGGACAUCUGCCGUGACAAAACAACGACACCUUCCACCAGCCCAGUCGCAUGGGCUUAGGUGGGGAGGGGCGCCCAGCCCACCAGGCGCUGGUAUGCACUCUUCUCAGCCCAUGUGGCCCCUCGGGGCAGGUCGGACCCUUUCAACACUCCUGGUACUCUGAGGUAAUGCCCGAACUUUCCGGUGACCAAAAAUGGAACUUCCUGUAUAUGAAUAUUUACCUCCUACCUAUUUUGAAGAUCCUAAAUCCCUUAAACUUAAGAGAAUAUGUACUCAUCAUCAGAGUGGUCUGAUCGCGCGAAGAAAACUUUACAUCCAUCUGAUAAGUGGGGANAUUACUGUCCAGUGUCUUAUGGUACAUAGCAAUGAUNNNNNNNNNNNNNNNNNNNNNNNNNNNNNNNNNNNNNNNNNNNNNNNNNNNNNNNNNNNNNNNNNNNNNNNNNNNNNNNNNNNNNNNNNNNNNNNNNNNNGAGAGAGAGAGAGAGANAGAGUAGAGGAGAGAGAGAGAGAGAGAGAGAGAGACGAGAGAGAGAGAGAGUAGAGAGAGAGAGAGAGAGAGAGAGAGAGAGAGAGAGAGAGACGACGACGACGUACGUCGUCUCUCUCUCUCUCUCUCUCUCUCUCUCUCUCUCUCUCUCUCUCUCUUCUUCUUCUUCUUCUUCUUCUUCUUCUCUCUCUCUCUUCUUCUUCUUCUUCUUCUCUCUCUCUCUCNCUCCUCCUCCUCUUCUCCUCUUCUUCCUCCGCUUCUUCUUCUUCUUCCUCUUAUUUCUAGUUCUAUUUUUCUUUAUCCUCUUCUUCUACUUAUUCUUCUUUUCUUCUUUUUUUCUCUUCUUCUCCUUAUUUUCUUCUUCUUAUCUUCUUCUCUUAUUCUUUUCUACUUCUCCUUCUUAUUUCUUUUCUUCGCCUCUUCUUCUUCUCCUUCUUAUUUUUUUUCUCUCCUCUUCUUCUUCUUCUUCUUCUUCUUCUUCUUCUCCUUCUUUAUUUUUUCUCUUCUUCUUCUUCUUCUUCUUCUACUUCUUCUCCUCCUCCUCCUYCUCNCNCCNCNCNCUACNCNCUCUCUCUCUCUCUCUACUCUCUCUCUCUCUCUCUCUCUCUCUCUCUACUNNNNNNNNNNNNNNNNNNNNNNNNNNNNNNNNNNNNNNNNNNNNNNNNNNNNNNNNNNNNNNNNNNNNNNNNNNNNNNNNNNNNNNNNNNNNNNNNNNNNGACUGGUUCUUUACGUCUCUGAAUUGGACUACCUCCUUUCCCAACACUUUGGUAUGUCCCUUGCCAUGGCCUGUAUCCGAUCAUAUUCCCUGUUCGGUCGAAAUAGAAACCAACAUUCCACGCAACAAAACGUUCCGCUUUGAAACAUACUAGAUUGCCCACCGAGGGUUUAUGGAGACAGUCUCGCUAGCAUGGAAUAAACCCGUCAAACAUGGUCAGAAUAGCAAUGCAACAACGAUAAUCUGUCAGAAACUUACAGCUGUUCGAUUUGCACUAUGAAGAUGGAGUAGCGGUAUCUCCCGCCUUAAGGUAGCAACCAUCAACACCAAUAAGGCGUUGCUGGAGUUAGACUCCCUCAAAGAUCGACGUACUCUCACCACGCCAGAAUGAAACUUCCGACGCGUCCUCAAAAAUCACCUUCUCAGGUUGCUAAAAUACCAGAAAGAAUACUGGGGCAAGAGAUGCUCCAUCAGAUGGAUCAAGUUUGGAGAUGAAAACACAAAGUUUUUUCAAACAGUGGCAACUGAACGGUAUCGACGCAACUUUGUGGCUACACUCAGAACUGAUGCAGGGAUCGUGGUUGAGACACAUGCCAGCAAGGAGGCUCUCCUGUUUGACACCUAUAGAAGAAGGAUGGGCGCGGCAAGAGCUCCCGAUAUACGGUUUGAUUGAACGCAACUACGGCGACAAGGCAUCGACUUUGAAGUUCUUACGAUCCCCUUUGCACAAGAGGAAAUAGACCCUGUAGUGAAAGAGAUGCCAGCUGACAAAUCUCCAGGGCCGGACGGUUUUAACGGCGCCUUUCUUAAAACUUGUUGGCAUAUCAUCAAGAAAGACUUCUAUGAUCUUUGUGACGAAUUCCACCGAGGUAAUCUCAACUUGGAACCUCUGAAUUAUGGGCACAUCACGCUCAUCCCCAAGACGGCUUCUCCUGAGACAGUGAACGACUAUCGUCCCAUUACCCUGCUUAACUGCUGCCUCAAGAUGAUCACCAAGAUACUGGCGCAGCGACUCCAGAAGAUCAUUCUACAGAUUGUGCAUUAAAACUAGUAUGGGUUCCUCCGUGGUAGAUCUAUACAUGACUGCUUGGCAUGGGCUUUCGAGUAUAUACACCAAUGUCAAAGCUCUCGAAAUGAUAUAGUCCUGCUUAAAUUAGACUUUGCUAAAGCUUUUGAUACGGUUGAACAUUCGGCUAUGAUCACCAUCAUGCAACGUAUGUGGUUUAAUUCAAAGUGGAUCCAAUGGAUGCAAUGCAUCUUCUCGUCUGGAAAAUCAUCGGUAUUACUGAAUUGAGUCCCUAGUAAACAAUUCCCCUGCAGAUGUGGAGUAAGACAGGGAGACCCUCUCUCACCAUUGAUAUUUGUGCUGGCGGCGGACAUACUCCAAACAAAGAUUAACAAACAACUAAAUUUGGGCUUGUUAUCCCACCCUAUCGACACAAGAGGCGAUGCUGACUUUCCAGUAAUCCAAUAUGCCGAUGACACCAUCAUCAUCAUGCACGCGUGUGAUGUCAAGGCUGCGAGAAUGAAAAGAAUACUAGAUGACUUCGCCACGACGAUAGGGCUCGGGAUUAACUAUCAGAAAUCAACCCUAGUUCCUAUCAAUGUGACUCAAUAGGUAUGUGACAACAUCAUCUCGAUCUUUCGUUGUGCGCAGGCAACAAUGUCGUUCACCUAUCUAGGGCUCCCGCUGGGUACAUCUAAACCUAAUUUCCUGGAUAUGACACCGUUAGUCUGUAAAGCGGAGAGGAAAAUCACAGCUGCCAUGGCGCUGAUGUCGCAUGCGAGCAUAUUGGCCUUGAUGAACUCACUGGUCACGUCGCUACUCGUGUACCCAAUGUGGACCCUCAGAAUCCCCCCAACGAUUGUAGAACAAUUUGAUAAACUCCGGAGGACGUGCCUAUGGAGAAAAAAGACUGAAGAUGGAUUCAAAAGUAAUACACUAGUGGCGUGGAACGCAGUUUGCCGCCUGAAAGAGUAUGGCGGCCUAGGGGUCCUGAACCUCAAACUACAGAAUGACGCGAUGCUUCUAAAGAUGCUUCACAAGUUCAACAACAGAAAAUAAAUCCCAUGGGUAGCAUUGAUCUGGAACACACACUACGGGGGAGCAAUCCCCCAUGCGCAAGAUCGUUGUGGCUCUUUCUGGUGGCGAGAACUGACUAAACUUAUGCCGGUGUUCCAAGGUAUAAAGCGAGUCAAUGUUAACAAUGGUCUCUCAACGCUCUUUUGGAAAGACAACUGGAACAAUGCCGUAUAUGCAGAAAAGUUCCCUCGGGCUUUCUCCUUUGCUAGAACUGAAGAUGCCUCGGUUCAGAACUUCUUGGGGACUAGCUCGCUUCAAGAAGCCUUCUCGCUGCCCCUGUCAGAACAAGCGCAUAAUGAACUCAGAAUGAUGCAACAAGAAAUCAGAGACGUGCAGCUAAACCCUAGGGGAGAUGACUGGGUGUGUUCUUGGGGAGCUGGCACCUUUGAAACGGUAGCAUAUCGACGUUUCUAUUUGAAAGAGACUACGGUGCACCCAGCGUUUCACUGGCUGUGGAAAACAAAGUGUGUCCCAAAGAUCAAGGUAUUUGGAUGGUUUUUGCUGAUGGACAGGCUCAACACAAGGAAUAUGCUCAAACAGAGACAUUACAACAUAGGGGAUACUCUCGAUUGCAUGCUAUGCGAUCGACACAUGGAGGAAACACUGGAACAUCUCUUCUUCAAAUGCAGCUUUAGCCAGCGCUGUUGGAAUAUGCUCAACAUCAAAUGGUCAGAACAACAACAUAGACUAGAGAAACUACAACAUCAGAGGACAACACACCCCAGGGACAUGUUCAUGGAUAUUUUUCUGGUGGCAGCCUGGAGUCUAUGGAAGGAAAGAAAUAACAAGUGCUUUGAGCAAAUAACCCCAUCUCUUGGGGCCAGCCGACGUCAGUUUGUACCAGACAUCUCCAAUCUUAGACACCGUGUGCCUACUAGCAAAGUGCAAAACAUAGAUAACAUUGUGGCAACCCUAGCUGAUAUCACGUAAUAUGUAACCUCACCCUGCCCACCUCCCCCCUCCCCCCCAUCCCCAUUCCACCCCCUCCCCAUCAUGUACAUGUGUAACUAUUGGCUUUAUAUAUACAUGCAGUAGGAUUUUAUCCUACUGUCUUACACUCAAAAGAAAGCAAGCAAGUUGGAUGCACACCCACUAGUUUUCUUUAAGAGCUUUCACAUAGUCUUAGCUCUAGUGCAUCAUUUGUAUGGCAAUCCCUACUCAUUCACAUUGAUAUCUAUUGAUGAGCAUUUCCAUAGCUCAUUGAUAUGCCUAGUCAAUGUGACCAUCUUCUCCUUGUUUGCCUUGCAACCUCCACCACACUCCACUCCACUUAUAGUGCUAAAACCAUGGCUCACGCUCAUGUAUUGCAUGAGAGUUGAAAAAGUUUGAGAAAGUAAAGGUGUGAAAACAAUUACUUGGCCAAUACCAAGGUUGUGCAUGAUUUAAAUUCGUUUUGCAAUGAUGAUAGAGCAUAGCCAGACUAUAUGAUUUUGUAGGGAUAACUUUCUUUUGUCCUUGUUAUUUUGAAACUUCAUGAUUACCUUGCUAGUUUGCUUGAAGUAUUAUUGUCUCCACGUCAAUAGAAAACUAUUGUUUUGAAUCUAAUGGAUCUGAACAUUCACGUCACAUAAGAGGAGUUACAAAGGACAUCUAUGCUAGCUAGCAUGAAAGCAUAAAAAUUCAUUCUUUAUCACUUCCCUACUCGAGGACGAACAGGAGUUAAGCUUGGGGAUGCUUGAAACGUCUCAAACGUAUCUAUAAUUUUUGAUGGUUUCAUGCCGUUAUCUUGUCAACUCUCGAUGUUUUAUAUUCCUUUUAUAUGUUUUUUGGGACUAACUUAUUAAUUCAGUGCCAAGUGCCAGUUCCUGUUUUUCUGUGUUUUUGACUCUUUUCAGAUCUGAUUUUGGAACGGAGUCCAAACGGAAUAAAAUCCCCAAAAUAAAAUUUUCCAGAACAGAAGAAGAUCGGUGGACUUGAGGGCCAAGGCAGGAGGCCCACAGGGAGCCCACAAGCCCUAACGCCACGGCCAGGGGGGCCCGCGGCGACUAGGCUUGUGGGCUCCUUGGCGCUCCUCUGCCCUAGCUCUUUCGCCUAUAUAUUCCCUAAAAUCCCAGAAAAAAUCAGGGCAUCCACGAAAACACUUUCCGCCGCCACAAGCUUCCGUUUCCGCGAGAUCUCAUCUCGAGACCCUUCCUGGUGCCCUGCCGGAGGGGACUUUGGAGUUGGAGGGCUUCUACAUCAACAUCAUCGCCUCUCCAAUGACUCGUGAGUAGUCCACUUCAGACCUAUGGGUCCGUAGUUAGUAGCUAGAUGGCUUCUUGUCUCUCUUGGAUCUUCAAUACAAAGUUCUCCAUGAUCUUCAUGGAGAUCUAUCCGAUGUAAUCCUCUUUGGCGGUGUGUUUGUCUAGAUCCGAUGAAUUGUGGAUUUGUAAUCAGAUUAUCUACGAAUUAUACUUGAGUCUUUGAUGAUUUCUUAUAUGCAUGAUUUUAUAUCCUUGUAAGUCGCUCCGAGUCUUGGGUUUUGUUUGGACAACUAGAUCUAUGAUUCUUGCAAUGGGAGAAGUGCUUGGUUUUGGGUUCAUACCGUGCGGUGUCCUUUCCCAGUGACAGAAGGGGCAGCAAGGCACGCAUCGUGUUGUUGCCAUCAAGGGUAACAAGAUGCGCUUUCAUCAUAGAUUUGAGAUUGUUCAUCUACAUCGUGUCAUCUUGCUUAAGGCGUUACUGUGUUCUUAUGAAAUCAAUACACUAGAUGCAUGCUGGAUAGCAGUGGACAUGUGGAGUAAUAGUAGUAGAUGCAGAAAGUAUUGGUCUACUUGUUUUGGACGUGAUGCCUAUAGAUAUGAUCAUUGCCAUAGAUAACGUCAUGACUUUGCGCGGUUCUAUCAAUUGCUCGACAGUAAUUCGUUCACCCACUGUCUACUUGCUUUCAUGAGAGAAGCCACUAGUGAACACUACGGGCCCUGGGUCUAUUCACAACUAUCGCUUCCACUUUUACUUUUACUUUGCUUUGUUUACGUUUUGCUUUCAGUUCUUACUUUGAAAAAAAUCUAUAAGGGAUUGACAACCCCUUCAUAGAGUUGGGUGCAAGCUCUUUGUGUUUGUGCAGGUACUUGUAACUUGACGCGAUCCUCCUACUGGAUUGAUACCUUGGUACUCAAACUGAGGGAAAUACUUACUGCCGCUGUGCUACAUCACCCUUUCCUUUUCAAGGGAACACCAACGCAAGGCUCCAAGGCCGCGGGGGAAUCCUUUGCAUAUUUCCCAAGGAAGUCCCUAUAGGCGUAGCACAUAGUAGAAGGAUUCCCGGUGCCGUUUCCAGGGAAUGUCUUUUGUUGCCGUAGCACAAGUCCAAGGUAUGGACUAGGUGAGAACUAUGCCCCCGUUGCUAGACUUGAAGCCAUUCACAUUCUUAUCACUUAUGAAAAUCAACAUGAUAUUACUCUUUGCCAAAUGGAUAUGAAAAGUAUUUUUUUAAAUGGUGAAAUUGAGGAGGAAGUUUUUGGCAAACAACCUCCUGGUUUUGUGAACCCUGAAAAACCUAAUCAUGUUUAAAAACUUUGUAAAUAUUUAUAUGGUCUGAAACAAGCCCCUCGAGCUUGGUACAAAUGCCUAACAAAGAGUCUCAUUGAAAAGGGUUUUGAGAUUGGUCAAAUUGACGUAGCUUUAUUCACUAGAAGAGUAAACGGCAAACUAUUUGUGUGCCAAAUAUAAGUGGAAGAUAUUAACUUUGGAUCUACUAACCCACAUUUUGGUGAGAAAUUUGGAAGGUUGAUGUCACACAAGUAUGAGAUGUCCAUGAUGUGUGAUCUGAAAUUCUUCCUUGGUUUGCAAAUCAAACAAUCGAGAGCAGGUACGUUUAUCUCUCAAACCAAGUACACCAAGGACUUAAUCAAGAAGUUCAACAUGAAAGAGUGUAAAGUUAUGAGAACCCCAAUGCCUACUAUUGGACAUGUUGACCUCACGAAGGAGGACAAACCGAUUGAUCAAAAGGUUCGUUGAUAAAUGAUCGGUUCAUUGCUAUAUCUAUGUGCCUCCCGUCCCAAUGUCAUGUUGAGUGUUUGCAUGUGUGCCUGAUAUCAAGCGACACCUAAGGAUUGUUAUCUAAAGGUUGUGAAAAGAAUUGUGAGAUACUUGAUACAAACACCAAACUUUGGCAUAUGGUAUCCUAAGGGAUCUUCUUUUAGUCUUGUUGGAUAUUCCGACUCGGACUAUGCCAGAGACAAUAUUGAUAGAAAAUCCACCUCGGGUACAUAUCAAUUUCUUGGGAGGUGUCUUGUGCCUUGGUCAUCCAAGAAACAAAACUUGGUAUCUCUAUCCACUAGCGAAGCAUAAUAUAUUGCCUCCAGAUCAUGUUAUGCGCAUUUACUAUGGAUGACGCAAACUCUUAAGGAUUAUGGUAUUCAUGUGAAACAUGUUCCAUUGUUGCGUUAUAGUGGAAGUGCUAUUAAAAUUGUUCAUAAUCCACUAAACAUUCACGAACUAAACAUAUUCAAGCGCGACAUCAUUUCAUUCGUGAUCAUGUUGGUAAAGGAGAUAUUAAUCUCAAGCAUGUUCGUACCAACAAACAAUUGGCUGAUAUCUUUACAAAACCACUUGAUGAGAAAGUGUUUUCCAUUUGAGGAGUGAGUUGACCAUCAUAUAUAGAUGCUUCAAACUCGAGCUAGACUCACUCGGAUGCAUGCAAGGGCAUGAGCUUACCUUAUUAUUUCAUGAUGCUAUUGAUGUGACACUAUCUUAUAUCUUGGAAAACUAUGCUCCCUUGUAUUGCAUCUAACCUUACUUUAGGUACUUGGAAGAAUUACAAUUCACAAGAUUUCCAUCAACUCACAUCAAACGCAAUCUUGUCAUGGCCAAGUAUCAACAACCCCUUCUUCGAAUAUGAAGGAAGAAGAAAACAAAAUCAUAUCCUUGACAACUACUUGAUGAAUGGAUUCACUCUUGUCAUUUGGACAUAUAAUGUUCUUCCUUGCAUGCGUAACCAAUGUAGGUGAAAAGUGAACCAAAACGACAAGGAUCACUCUCGACUCAAGAUGAUCUUCAUCAACAUUGAGCAUCCACAACAAGUUCACCUACAUGCCACAUCAUCAACAUCAUUCAAAGGUAUGUACUCAUAUCCUUGAUAAAACUUUACACCAAGUCAUGAGGUAAAGCAACUCAAGUGAUAUGAAGACAUCAAAAUGCUUAAUCCAAAAAUGGCACCCCCAUUUUGCACUUAACGAUGAGUAUGACCUAUGAUCAAGCAUUCUUCCUUGACUCCUCAAGUCAAUACACUCUAAUAUAGUUGACCUAGUCACCGACAAACAUCUAGAUGGAGAUUCUUGUAUGGUUCUUAUUUUAAAUUGCAUACUUUCUUGGAACCAUUCAAUUCUCAUCUUAAUCAAAAAAAAUAUUUUCUCUUGGUUUAUUUUUUAAAUAUUUGCAUAUUUCCUUUUUCAAAGUUUGUAUAUAUUUCCUAUCUAUGUGAGUUGAGCACCUAAAUCUCAUUGCAACUUGGUCACACCAAUAUGGGGAACUAGGUCUAACCAAUUUCACCUAGGGGCCUUCUACCAUUCUCGGUUCUACUGAACCAUAUUACCUCGGUGAUUCCGAAUUUAUCAUUGCUUAUGUACUCUUGGUUAUUAUGAACUUUUGACAAAGAGGGAGAAUCUAUUCAGUGAUCGCAAAGUUUAUUACAUCCUAAUCUUUUAUAGAUUAUUUCCAUUGAUGCCAAAGGGGUACACCUUGGUUUCCCAUAAUUCUCAAGGGGGAGAAAAACAUCAAAGCGGGAGAAAUAUUCAGUGAUCUGACAAUACAAGAGGGAGAAAAUGUCUAGGAACCCUAACAAAUAGCGGGAGAUAUUUAAAGGAACUUUUAUCCAUACUCAAGGGGAGAUCAUUGUGGGAACCUUUAUCACAGGAAAAUAAUAUAGGAUCCCUUACUCUCAAUGACCCCUUACCCUCUCACAUUUUUUUGGAAAUUAAUACUAAAGGGGGGAGAUAUAUCAAAGCUUCUAAAUGCUUAUACCAAAAGGGGAGAUCUACCAAAGGGGAGAUCUCCAUAGGGGUGAUAUACCAUACCUUACACAUUCAGGGGAGAACUACCAUUGAGGGGGAGAUAUUUAAAGAUUUAGUUGAGUUUUAUUGCCUACUUUGGAUUGAAUUUGUCUCUCCACCUACUCCCAAUAUUUACAUGCUAUGAUUCGGGAGUAGAGGUAAUCUUACAUAUUCAUUCUGAGGGAAGAAAGUUAUAAAUAUCUUUGGAUACAUAUCUAUUAUCGAAUCUUAUUUUUAAUAUGUCUUCAACAUCUUGGUACUUUUGAAGCUCUUUGCAUCUUUACAUUAAAAUACUCUUGCGUUAUCUAACAUUUGUUUUCCCAAGUGUAUUGCUACUGCUAGGAUGCUCAAGAACCUCAAGGUAAAUAUAUGCAUCAUAUCCUUGUUCAGGAUGAUCUCUUAUCUCUUGCACAUAUUGUUUGUAAGAAUAAUGAGUGUUGAUCUUAGUAAUCUUUCAUUCACAUUUUUUUGAUGCAUAUAGCCAAGAUUCACAUGACUCAUCUUGUCCCUUCUACUAUGUGGAUGCUCAUGCAGUCCAAAGCGAACAUCUCUUAAAGGAGAUUUCACAAAUUUAGGGGGAGCUUGUAUUAGUCAUGUACCUUUCAAAGUUGUCAUAUUCCACUUCCUAUCUUUAUUUUAAGCUCUGAUUGUAUGUUGUCAUUAAUUAUCAAAAAAUGGGAGAUUUAAAGAACAUAUGAUCCCUUGGUGGUUUUGAUGAUUCAUGACAAAAUACAUUGUCUCUUGGACUAACAUUAUUACCUAGUAUAUUUCAGGUAUAGUCCACAAAGAGCAUUGGCUAAAGUAUUGUGUGGAGAAGCCCCAACGAAAGGAAUAGGAUUGGUUAAGCCUCAAGCAAGAGGACUCUACAUUUUAUAUUUGUGGGAAAUCACUUUUGAGUCCAUAGGAAAGCCAAUACUAUUAAAAGGACGAUGUAUUUAUGAUGAAUUGGUUUCUCAAUUGCUUAGAGAUAGGCACCAAAAAAAUUCAGUCAUUCUCCCACGAAUAUAUUUGUUCAAAGCCUUCACAUCAAAAUAGGUGCCACCAGGAAUUCUAUUUCGUCCCUACCGGUUUUCCCAGUGAGAGAUCCGUUGCCAAACCCUAAUCUCUCGGUACCACCAACUUUCAUAUCAGUGCCACCAAAAGACAGUGACCAACUUUAUGGUAUCUCUGUUUCAAGAAUCGGUAUUUCUGAGAUUGAACUCGGUACCAACGAGAAUUGGAAACUACCCUAGGUCAUCGAAUUGGUACCAACGACAUUUGUAUAUUGGUCUCACCAAGAACUCAAAAGUUGCCACAUUUAGUGCAAAUCGGUACCAUCGAGAUUCAUUUUGGUGUCACCGAGUUGGGCAAUAAUGUUGUAACGGUUGGAUUUUUGGAGAUGCCUAUAUAUAACCCUCCACCUCCUCUCAUUUGCAGAGGAAGCACUCAUGACACACUUACACUUGCCAUAUCCAUUUUUCUAAGAGAGAACCACCUACUCAUNAAGAUAUUCCAAUCCAACCGUUUGAAACUUGAUAUCUAUUCUCCUCAAGUUGCUUUCCACCAAAUCAAUCUCUCCUUCCCAUGACAAAUCUGUGAGAGAGUGAUUGAGUGUUGAGGAGACUAUCUUUUGAAGCACAAGAGUAAGUAGUUCAUCGUUCUACCGCAUCUACUACCUUUUGGAGGGUGGUGCCUCCUAGAUUGGUUAGGUGUCGCUUGGUAUCCUCCUACUUCGUGUUUUGGAGUUGAACUAAGAAGUUUGUACAUGCAAGGAGAUUGCCUACUUCGUGAAGAUCUACCCUGAGUGAGGCUAGUCAUGUGUGGACGUAAGCCAUGGUGGAAUAGACAAGGCCGGUUCUUUGUGGACCCCUUCUGGGUGGAGCCCUCCGUGGGCUCUCGUAACCGUGACCCUUCGUGGGUUGAAGUCUCCACUAGCAUGGACAUACGAUAGCACCACCCAUCGAAACCACGUCAAAAAUCACCGUGUCUUCUAUGCGUUUGAUCUUCCUAAACACUACGCCUUACUUAUACGUGCAAUGUCUUUACUUUCCGCUACCAUAUAUGUUGACUAGAAUGUGUAGGGUGCACUAGACUUGUUAGAAAUGCUAAAAUUUUCCAACCACUAAAAUUGGGAAAAUUCUAGGAUUUUAAUUUAUGCAAGUAGUCUAUCUACCCCCUCUAGACAUCCCUUCGAGUGAUCCCAUAGAACACGUACAAACAAGGUUGGGGCAAUCUCCACAACUUAAUUGGAGGCUCCCAACAACAACACGAAGCUUCAUCAUAAUGAAUUGUGGGUCCAAGAUUACCUCAAAUGCUCGAGGCAAUCUCCACAACCUAAUUGGAGACCCCGGACGCUUGCUCGGAGCUUUACACCACAAUGAUUGAGCUCUGAGGCACCACCAACCAUCUAGGGCGCCAAAGCACCCAAGAGCCACAAGCUCUAGGGUUCCCAAACACGCAAGAGUAAUAAGCUUCUCGAACUUCACUUCCACGUAUCGCUGUGGAGAACUCAAAUCGAUUCACCAAAUGCAAUGGCAAGAAGAAAUGAACUGGUCAAGUCCCUGAUACGUCUCCAUCGUAUCUACUUUUCCAAACUCUUUUGCCCUUGUUUUGGACUCUAAUUUGCGUGAUUUGAAUGGAACUAACCCGGACUGACGCUGUUUUCAGCAGAAUUGCCAUGGUGUUGUUUUUGUGCAGAAAUGAAAUUUCUCGGAACAUCCCGAAAAUUUACGGAGAAUAUUUCUCGAAAAUAUGAAAAAUACCUACACAAAGAUCCACCGGAGGGGACGGGCCAGUGGGCUACAAGCCCUGACGCCGCGGACUCCCCCCCUGGCCGCGGCAACCAAGCUUGUGGGGCCCACGUGGCUCUGCCGCCCCCAACUCCAGCGCUAUUUAUUCCCUUUCGUCCCAAAAAAAUCAAGAGAGAAGAUUUCAUCGCAUUUGCAACAUGGAGGCGCCGGCACAUCCUGUUCUUCAUCUGGAGGGCACAUCUAGAGUCAGUUUUGGGCUCCGGAUCAAGGAGAUCGUCGCCAUCGUCAUCAUCAACCUUCUUCCCUCUCCAAUUCCAUGAAGCUCUUCAUCGUUCCUGAGUAAUCUAUUUGUAGGCUCGCUGGGCGGUGAUGAGUAGGAUGAGAUCUAUCAUGUAAUUGAGUUAGUUUUAACGGGGAUUGAUCCCUAGUAUCCACUAUGUUCUGAGAUUGAUGUUGCUACUACUUUGCCAUGCUUAAUGCUUGUCACUAGGGCCCGAGUGCCAUGAUUUCAGAUCUGAAAUUAUUAUGUUGUCACCAAUAUAUGUGUGUUUUAGAUCCGAUCUUGCAAGUUGUAGUUACCUACUAUGUGUUAUGAUCCGGCAACCCCGGAGUGACAAUAACCGGAACCACUCCCGGUGAUGACCAUAGUUUGAGGAGUUCAUGUGUUCACCAAGUGCUAAUGCUUUGGUCCGGUUCUUUAUUAAAAGGAGAAACUUAAUAUCCCGUAGUAUCCAUUUGGACCCCGCUGCCACGGGAGGGAUGGACAAUAGAUGUCAUGCAAGUUCUUUUCCCUAAGCACGUAUGACGACACACGGAAUGCCUGCCUACAUCACAUUGACGAACGGGAGCUAGCAACAUAUCUCUCCGUGUUAUAACUGCUACAUGAUGAAUGGCAUCCAACAAAUCACCGAUCCAUUGCCUACGAGUUUGUCCCACUGCUGCUGUUACUUGUUUUGCUCUGCUGCUGUUACUACUGUUGCUGCUACUGUUACUUGCUUUGUCCUGCUGCUGCUGCCACUACUGUUGCUAAUACUGUUACUUGCUACUGUUGUUACUUGCUACUGUUGCUACUUGCUACUGCUGUCACUACUGCUGUUCCUUGCCACUGCUGCUACUCGUUACACUGCUACUACCUGCUACAAUACUUUUUCUAGCACCGUUGCCGGGAAAGAAUAUUUCCCGUCCACGGGCAACUUACUGGCGCCAUUGAAACAACAGUUAGGAAUAAUCUGCCGUCAACAGAUCGUUUCUGGCACCGUUGUUAUCAUACUACUUUCUACUGAUACUUUGCUUGCACACACUAAUCUUUCAGGUGUGGUUGAAUCUGACGCAUUCAGCUGCUAAUACUUGAGAAUAUUCUUUCACUUCCCGUCGUGCGAACCAACAAAUUUGGGUUGAAUACUCUACCCUCGAAAAUUGUCGCGAUCCCACGCGCUGGUGGGCUAUUGCAAGACAAUUUCUAAUUGUUGAGCAACUGGAAGCAGCACUUUUCUGGCUCCGUUGCCAUGGAGGCAUCAAGUCAGGAAUAGUUGCACGUCAACAACAUUUUUCUGGCGCCGUUGCCGGGGAAGGAUUGAUAUAUUCUCUGAGUCACUUGGGAUUUAUAUCUGUUGAUCACUAUGAAGAAUGUGAAAGAUCCAAAAACCAAAGUCAUGCCCUCAACUACGAGGGGAGGUAAGGAACUGCCAUCUAGCUCUGCACUUGAUUCACCUUCAGUUAUGAGUAAGUUUGCGACACCACCUCCUGCUAGAAAACUUGAUAUGUCGCCUGUGCUUGAUGAUGCUUAUGAUGCUACUCCUAGAGAUACUAUGCCUCAUGAUGCUAGAGAUGCUAUGCCUGAUACUGCUAGAGAUGCUAUGCCUGAUAUUGCUAGAGUUGCUAUGCUUGAUACUGCCUUGCCCGAUGAUGCUAGAUAUGCUAUUUUUCCUGAUGAUGCUAUGCUUGAUACUGCUACAGAUACUACUUUGCCUGAUGUGCCACUAGGGGCAUUCCUUGAUGCUCAUAUUGCAAGAGUUACUGCCAAUUCUCGUGAUGCUUCUGAAACUGCCAAUACUAUUGAGAUAGAACCUGCUUUUGCUCCUGCUAGAUCUAGCUCUCCUAGAUAUGAAUUGCCUGAUAUACCAGAGGGUUAUGUUAUGGAGGGAGAGAUAGCUGAGGAUUUUCUUGCGUGUAAGGAUGCCUAUGACGCUGAGAAAUCACUUCUCAAGUGGAAGGAAAAAUCUCUGAAAGCUAGGAUGAAAUACGACCCAAAGUUUGCCACUUCACCUAUCUUUAUCACCGAUGAGGAUUAUGAAUUCUCUGUCGACCCUGAGAUAAUCUCUCUAUAUGAAUCUGAUCCUUUCCACAGUUAUGAGUCUGAGACGGUCGUAGCCCAUCUUACCAAACUACACGAUAUAGCCACCCUUUUCACUAGUGAGGAGAAGAUCCGCUACUACUAUAUCCUUAAGUUAUUUCCUUUCUCUCUAAAGGAUGACGCUAAAGCCUGGUUCACUUCUCUUGCUCGUGGAUGUGUGAGUAGUCCCCAGGAGAUGGUCUAUUACUUCUGUGAGAAAUAUUUCUCUUCCCAUAAGAAGCAAGCUGCCUUGUAGGAAAUAUACAACUUUGCUCAACACAAAGAAGAGAGUCUCCCACAAGCUUGGGGGAGGCUCAUCCAGCUACAGAAUGCUUUGCCUGAUCACCCUCUUAAGAAGAACGAGAUACUUGAUAUCUUCUAUAACGGACUUACCGAUGCUUCUAGAGACCACCUAGAUAGUUGUGCCGGUUGUGUUUUUAGGGAACGAACUAUAGAACAAGCUGAGAUCCUACUGAAUAACAUCUUGAUCGACGAUAAUGCUUGGACUAUUCCCGAACCACCUCCUAAGCCAACUCCGAAGAAAAUAGGUAUUCUAUUCGUCAGUCCUGAAGAUAUGCAAGAAGCCAAGAAAUCUAUGCAAGAGAAAGGCAUUAGAUCUGAAGAUGUCAAAAAUCUACCGCCCAUCGAAGAGAUCCAUGGUCUCGAUAAUCCGAUACAGGUAGUAGAAGUAAAUUCUCUGUGUAGGUUUGAUGAGAGUGAUAUUCCUUUUGACAAACCUGCUAGCCUAUGCUUUGAUGAAUUUGACAACUUUGUUGCCAAACAACAGAGUUUCAAUGAUUAUGUUAGCAGACAAUUGUAACAAAGUACUCGUAUGCUUAGUCAUUUAAGUGCUUGUGUAGACAGAAAUGUCAAUGAUCUGAAGCUUCUGAGUAAACAUGCCUCUAUGAUUACUAAUCAGGUAGAACAAGUACUUAAAGCUUAGAAUGACUUGCUCAAUGAAUUAAAUGACAAAUCUGUCAGAGUCAUUACUAGAGGAGGCAAAAUGACUCAGGAACCUUAGUAUCCUGAAGGCCAUCCUAAGAGAAUUGAUCAAGAUUCUCAAGGAAUUAAUGCUGAUACACCCACUCAUCCUAAGAAGAAGAAGAAGGAUGAUAGAAACCUACAUGUCAAUUCACCAAAUACCGUCACACCUGAAGAACCAAAUGAUAUUUCUGCGUCUGAUGCAGAAACACAAUCUGGUGACGAACAUGAACCUGGUGACAAUAUGGACAGCGAUGUUCAUAAUAAUGCUCAACCUAGCAAUAAUGAGGAUGUAGAGAUUGAACCUACGGUUAAUCCUGAUAACCCACAACCUAAUAGAUACGAUAAGAAUGACUUCACUGCUAGGAAUCAUGGUAAAGAAACGGAGUCAUGGGUUCAGAGACCUAUGCCCUUUCCUCCUAAGCCAUCCAAGAAAAAGGAUGAUGAGGAUUUUGAGUGCUUUAUUGAAAUGAUAAGACCCGUCUUUCUGCAGAUGCGGUAAAUUGAUAUGCUCAAAAUGUCUCCAUAUACCUUGCUCCUAAGAAACAUGGUGAUCCCGGAGUGCCCACUAUACCUUGCUCCAUUAAAGGAAACUACGUAAGAACUGCCUUAUGUGACCUUGGAGGUGGUGUUAGUGUUAUGCCUCUCUCCCUUUAUCGUAGACUUGAACUGGAUAAGUUGACACCCACUGAAAUUUCUCUGCAAAUGGCCGACAAAUCAACUGCUUUCCUUGUCGGCAUUUGCAAGGAUAUGCCUAUUGUGGUUGCUAACACCACUAUCUUAACAAACUUUGUUAUCUUGGAUAUUCCCGAGGACGAUGCCAUGGCUGUCAUCCUUGGAAGACCCUUUUUAAACACUGCAGGGUCUGUUAUAGAUUGCUACAAAGGCAAUGUCACCUUCCAUGUCAAUGGUAAUGAGCAUACAGUGCACUUUUUGAAGAAAUGAUAUCAAGUACAUUGCAUCAAUGCUAUCGAAAAACUUCAUCGAUUCUUAUUGGGAGCUUUGAAUGCCCUAUUCCCCGUGUCAAGAUGAAGUAUGAUUUGCUUGUUGGGGAGAUACAUAUCCCCAUUGAGGUGACCUAGUGACUAUUCAAAAAUUCUCCGUUCUCUUUUGCGAUUCGAGAAAAUUUUGUCAUGAGGAUUUGAUAAACCCCAUUGACGGAUUUCUUUCGAUGACCAUGAAAUGGAUGAAUCAAAGAGUUACAUGCCUCUGUUUUAAGCUUUUACUUUCUGUUGCUUAGAAGAAAAAUGAUAGAUUUAGUUUAGUUUUCCCUAUUUCCUGUUUUAGCGUCCCGGAGAAAAGUACCCCAAAAAUAAAAUUUCUCCGAUGGUCCUGAAAAUCAAAUAUGAUUUUUUCUGGAAUAUUUGAAAAAUACUGGGACUGAGAGCUGGCCUGGGGGCCACACCAGUGGGCACAAGCCCUGUCACUGCGGCCUCCCCCCUGGCCGCGGCAACCAAGCUUGUGGGGCCCACAGGGACCCCCUCCACUCAUUCCAGCUCCCAUCCUCUUCUUCUACCUCCAGAAAAAAUCGUUUCACAGCUCAAACCCGUGUUCUUGCUCAUUUGGCUGUGAUUUUCGAACUCCUUGCUCAAAGCACCAUUCUCCGAACCGUUUUGGGGAAAUUACUCCUUGGUAAGUGACUCCUCCAUUGGUCCAAUCAGUUUCUACUCUAGUGCUUUAUCCUUACCGUAUUCUUGCUACCUUGGUGACCCUGUUCUUGAGCUUGAAAUGUUGGUUUUAGCUGGUCCCAAGCAGUUUUAACGCGUGAUACGGUCUCUAGGCAUUAGUAGGAGUAGUUGCUACAAGGUGUGGUUGGUCUUUAUUCACUUUUCUCUUGAACUUCAAAAAUUUCAGCAAAAAUAAAUUAUGUUCAGGAGGAAGUUUCAUGGUGGUUCCUCAAGUAAGAAGGGUCCCCGUCUUUCUAUUCGGGAGCCCGAUCCUUAUCAACUAAGAUAAGCACCGGUACAACCAUGUGAAUGGCCUUCCGAUGAGUUCAUGAUCGAAGCAGGCUUCAAGGAUGAGUUUGAUACACUUGUCUGCAAUGUCGGGUUAGAAGAAUUCCUCUCAAAUAAAUGUGAACAGUAUGCUUUGCUCACUGCCUCUUUCGUGUGUAGAUUUAAAUUUUUAGUUGGGCGUGACUCAUCCAUACCGUUUGACCUGUAUGAUAAAUCCUACGCCAUGGAUUUGGAGGAUUUCAAUAGGAUUUGCAAGAUACCCGAUGGGGGAAAUCUUAAAGAUCCUGCUAAGUCUUCGGUUAGAGAUUUUGUCUCUAGUAUAACUGUUGGAGAAACUAGAGACAUCACGCAAGCUACCAUAGGAAGCAUUCAUUUCCCUGGCUUGCACUACUUUUCCCUCUUCAUAGGUAAUGCAUUAACGGCAAGGUUGAACAUUGUCACCUAUGCGCAUCCGACCUUAGUAUCCUUAAGAGCGCAGUGACGGGUGACAAAAGCUUCAACAUGGGAGCUAUUAUAGCAAGGAGGAUGAAUAAGAAUGCUAUUGAUGGGGAUUUCUUUGGCGGCAUCUAUGCCACUUGCAUAGCAAAUUUUCUUGGAGUACCCAUCCGCGCAGGAGAUCCCCCGCUCCAUACAGCUUUCCUUGACCACGUCGCUAUGACACGCUACCAGUUCCUUGAGAGGGAUGAUGAAUCCCUCCUAUACCGAUUGAUAUUUAACCGGCAACGUGUUUUCCAUAUUACCCUUCCUGCUCCUGCUUUGUUUGACUUUCAGGUAAAACGGAGAUACUACAUAACCAUAGGAGAGGCAUAGGAGUAUGAGAGGGAGGCGACGGCUGCUCGUCUCUGUGAGGCAACUAUUUAGGCAGUGGCUGCAGCGCUCCCGUAUAACCCCGAUUAUGAUUUUGGGUUUUGCCAGGACCGUCCUUGGGAGUAGACCAAGCGAGGCCAAAAGCCUAAGCUUGGGGGAGUACGUGUUUGCACCAACUUUACAUUCAAGCUUAUGCUUUCACUUUGUUAGUCAGUGUUUACACUUUGCCACUGUAUUAUCCAUGCUAGUUUAUUUUCGUUUUCUUGUUUUGUGUCAUUUUGAGAAAACCCAAAAGUAUUUUUCUUUCUUCUUUUGCUUGCUGGGAGCUUUCUCGUGUAAAUAGUUUUCUUUUUCUUUGUGUCAAGGUAGAAGAUAUUGGUUACAAUGUUUAGUGGUUCUUGCAUGCAUACCUGUUUAGCUUUCAAAGAGCCAUAUUACUUUGUCUUCUCCUUUGUGUUUGCCUGCAGAUUCAGCUUAGUCCAAUGCACGAGAACUCUUAUUAUUGUUCACUUCGUUCGAUCGUGCAAGUGAAAGACAAUAAUGAUGAUAUAUGAUGAAGUGACUGAGACUNUUUUUGUCCUUUGAGAAAACCCAAAAAGAUUUUCCUUUCUUCUUUUGCUUGUUGGGAGCUUUCCGUGUAAAUAGUUUUCUUUUUCUUUGGGUCAAGGUAGAAGAUAUUGGUUACAAUGUUUAGUGGCUCUUGCAUGCAUACCUAUUUAGCUUUCAAAGAGCCAUAUUACUUUAUCUUCCCCUUUGUGUUUGCCUGUAGAUUCAGCUUAGUCCAAUGCAUAAGCACUCUUAUUAUUGUUCACAUCGUUCGAUCGUGCAAGUGAAAGGAAAUAAUGACGAUAUAUGAUGAAGUGACUGAGACUGGAAAAGCUCGUAUGAACUCUAUCUAUUUUGUUUUUGUAAAUAUGGCUAGCUUGUCGUUCCAGAUUCAGCUUUGUUGAGAGAGAACCAUGUUUGCAAAAACAACUUAGAGAUCAUAGUUUUGGAUUCCAUGCUUAAUUAGCUAGGAGCUUAUAAUGGUUUGUCUUGAAUGCCAACAUGGAUUUUGAGAUGACUAUAAUGUAGUAUGAUAGGAUGGUAUUCUCCUUUGAAUGAUUCAAGUGGCUUGACUUGACGCAUGUUCAUGCAUGUAGUUGAAACAGAAUCAACAUAGCCUAUAUGAUGUUCGUGUUCAUGGUGAUUUAUAUCCUAUUCAUGCUUGCACCCAAUGUUAGUCAAACUCAUUGCAUCUUGAUGACUGUUGUCGCUCUCUAGUUGGUCGCUUCCCAGUCUUUUGCUAGCCUUCACUUGUACUAAGAGGAAUACUGCUUGUGAAUCCACUUCCAUAAACCCAAAAGUUUUUUCAUGAGAGUCCACCAUACCUACCUAUUUGCGGUAUCUACCUGCCGUUCCAAGUAAAUUUGCAUGUGCCAUUCUCUAAACCUUCAAGAAAUUUUCUAUUUUGCUUGCCCGAACCGCUCAUGUGGUGACAGGGGGCUAUUGGUAUCUUCCAUGUUAGGCGUGUUAUCCUCGACAUGUGUUUAUUCACUGUCAUUCACGAGAAAGGGGUCGGUAAUUGGAAUCCCAGUUCCACGCUUAAAUCGAAAACAUAACUCUAAAACAAGACUCCCCCCGGAUUGAUGUUAGUAUGGACGGUACCCGAGGAUUGGUUGGUGGUGGGGGAGUUAAAACUUUACUUUUCUGUUUGGGAACCGCCUAUAGCAUUAGUAGCAUGGAAGAUAUUGAGAACUCUUGGUCAUUGCGUUGACAAUGAAAGCAUGCCACCCAAAAUUAUUAUCUCUGUUUUCAAAGCUUGAGCUCUGGCACCUCUGCAAAUCAAUGCUUCCCUCUGCGAAGGGCCUGUCUAUUUAUUUUCCUAUUGAGUCAUCCUCUUCUUAUGUAGAGAGCACCUCUGUCAUUUUUAUGCUUUGCUUGUGAUUGAUAUUGAGUAUGAAUAUGAAUGGAUUUUCGUUGCUAUGAAUUACAAUGUUUAGUCAGCCCUUGAUCUUUGAAAGUGCUCUGCAUUUAUGUUUUGCGGUCUCAGAAAGAGCUAGCGAGAUAUCACCUAUUCAUAUUGCUUCAUGCUUGUUUUGAUUGAAUUGUUGGUAUCCAAAACUCAUUAUUAUUUGCUCGCUAGCUGAUUAUGCCAUUAAUAUUAGUUCACCGUGAGACCUUUGUGUCACUUGCUUAUGUGGUUAACUUGUGAUCUUGCUGAAAUUCUGGUUAUGAGUUAGACAUAGUUGCAACAACAAGAUCAGACAGAGUUUGUCAAAGUUUUUCUUUCUCUCUCAGUUUGUCAACUGAGUUGCUUGAGGACAAGCAAGGUUUUAAGCUUGGGGGAGUUGAUACGUCUCCAUCGUAUCUACUUUCCCAAACUCUUUUGCCCUUGUUUUUGGACUCUAAUUUGCAUGAUUUGAAUGGAACUAACCCGGACUGACGCUGUUUUCAGCAGAAUUGCCAUGGUGUUGUUUUUGUGCAGAAAUGAAAGUUCUCGGAACAUCCUAAAAAUUUACAAAGAAUAUUUCUGGAAAAUUUGAGAAAUACCUGCGCAAAGAUCCACCGGAGGGGACGGGCCAGUGGGCCACAAGCCCUAACGCCGCGGCCUCCCCCCUGGCCGCGGCAACCAAGCUUGUGGGGCCCACGUGGCUCUACCGCCCCCAACUCGAGCGCUAUUAUUCCCUUUCGUCCCGAAAAAAAUCAAGAGAGAAGAUUUCAUCGCGUUUGCAACACAGAGGCGCCGCCACAUCCUGUUCUUCAUCUGGUGGGCAGAUCUGGAGUCCAUUUUGGGCUCCGGAUCAAGGAGAUCGUCGCCAUCGUCAUCAUCAACCUUCUUCCCUCUCCAAUUCCAUCUAGCUCUUCAUCAUUCCUGAGUAAUCUAUUCGUAGGCUCGCUGGGCGGUGAUGAGUAGGAUGAGAUCUAUCAUGUAAUCGACUUAGUUUUGACGGGGAUUGAUCCCUAGUAUCCACUAUGUUCUGAGAUUGAUGUUGCUACUACUUCGCCAUGCUUAAUGCUUGUCACUAGGGCCCGAGUGCCAUGAUUUCAGAUCUGAAAUUAUUAUGUUGUCACCAAUAUAUAUGUGUUCUAGAUCCGAUCUUGCAAGUUGUAGUUAGCUAGUAUUUGUUAUGAUCCGGCAACCCCGGAGUGACAAUAACCGGAACCACUCCCGGUGAUGACCAAAGGUUGAGGAAUACAUGUGUUCACCAAGUGCUAAUGCGUUGGUCCGGUUCUUUAUUAAAAGAAGAACCUUAAUAUCCCGUAGUAUCCAUUUGGACACCGCUGCCACGGGAGGGAUGGACAAUAGAUGUCAUGCAAGUUCUUUUCCCUAAGCACGUAUGACGACACACAUAAUGCAUGCCUACAUCACAUUGACGAACGGGAGCUAGCCACAUAUCUCUCCGUGUUAUAACUGUUGCAUGAUGAAUGUCAUCCAACAAAUCACCGAUCCAUUGCCUACGAGUUUGUCCCACUGCUGUUGUUACUUGUUUUGCUCUGCUGCUGUUACUACUGUUGCUCCUACUAUUACUUGCUGCUAGUGUUACUUGCUUUGUCCUGCUGCUGCUGCCACUACUUUUGCUACUACUGUUACUUGCUACUGUUGUUACUUGCUACUGUUGCUACUUGCCACUGCUUCACUACUGCUGUUCCUUGCCACUGCUGCUACUCGUUACACUGCUACUACCUGCUACAAUAAUUUUUCUAGCACCGUUGCCGGGAAAGAAUAUUUCCCAUCCACGGGCAACUUACUGGCGCCAUUGAAACAACAGUUAGGAAUAGUCUGCCGUCAACAGAUCGUUUCUGGCACCGUUGUUAUCAUACUACUUUGCUACUGAUACUUUGCUUGCACACACUAAUCUUUCAGGUGUGGUUGAAUCUGACACAUUCAGCAUCUUAUACUUGAGAAUAUUCUUUCACUUCCCAUCGUGCGAACCAACAAAUUUGGGUUGACUACUCUACCCUCGAAAACUGCUGCGAUCCCACGCGCUGGUGGGCUAUUGCAAGACAAUUUCUAAUUGUUGAGCAACUGGAAGCAGCUCUUUUCUGGCUCCGUUGCCGUGGAGGCAUCAAGUCAGGAAUAGUUGCACAUCAACAGUCCCUCACACUCAAAUCCCUCCACAACAAUAGAAGCUAUGGAAGGAAAUGAGAGGAAUAAUGAAGGAUCUCACAAAGAACUCCAAGAUCUAGAUCCAAGGGGUUCCCCUCACAAAGAGGAGAAAGUGAUUGGUGGAAAUGUACAUCUAGAUCUCCUCUCUCUUUUCCAUCAAGAACUAGCAAGAAUCAUUCGAAAGAUUGAGAGUUAGCAAGCUUAAAGAAGGACACAAUGGAGGAAGAAAAUGAGCUCAAGAGUGAGGGACCAUUGGGGAAGAAGGACUCCUCAAUUAGACAUCCCAAAAUCCAACAUGCCCACAAGUCGUGCUCAAGCGGUACUACCGCUUGGGGGAAUUGGUACUAUCGCUUAUCACGGUCAAAACAGCCCAACGAGAUAGAAAAACACGAGUGGUAGUUCUGCCAAAGAGGUAGUACCGCUCGGGGGAGAGGUAGUACCUCUUAAGAGGUACUACUGCUCCGUGCCUGGGGUAAAGGUAGUACCACUUGAGAGGUACUACCUUUCUGUACUACCCCUCUACUAUCGUUGAAGAAGAUUGGACACCAGAAUCAGAAAAUAAGCGGAAGUAGAAGUGGUAAUGGUCAGCAGAAGUACCUCUUAAGAGGUACUACCGCUUGAGAGGUACUACCGCUUAAAGCAGUACUUAAGACCAACGAAAACUGAAACCUGCAUAACUGUCGGAUAGAGACUCCAAAAUGAGCAAGCUCAAGCUUGUUGGAUAGAUUACUGAUGGCACUCUCUGGCUAUGGCUAGACGAAUGCUAUUCUCGAUUGCUCAACAAUUAGAAAUUGUCUUGCAAUCACUACAAGGAAUAUGCUAAUACACGACGCUAUUUUUUCGUCGCUACAUCGUCAUGGUUUUUAAUUUACGACGAUCUCACGACGAAAACCAAGCGUCGAAAACGGAGCGUCACAAAUGAACAGCAACGACGUUUUGAUUAAAAUCGUCGUAACUUUUACGACGAUUCCUGGAUUGUCGUAAACUUUACGACGAUCCUAAAUCGUCGUUGGCAAUCAAACUCAGUCCUACGUGGCAGUCCUACGUGGCAAAAUUACGACGAAAUCAAAACAUCAUGGUUGAAAUCAGCCCAACCCAUUUCAAUUGAUCACAUGGGCUGGUUUUAAUUAUUUGGGUUUUUUCUUAUUGGGCUUGUUUUUGGGCCUUAGCCUAUUUGCAGCCACUUCUAGUAUUUUUUCAAUUUUUUUUAUAUCAUCAUAAUUUGGGCCAUGGCCUUUUAGAUCCCAAAUAAAUUUGGUCCAGUUUCAGUUUUGGCCCUUUUUCAUUUUUGAAUUCAGCAACUUUUUGUUCCAUAAUUUGGAUUCAUUUCUAUUUGCUGGGCCUUUUCAACCCAAUUAUUUGUCCAGUAUUAAAUCCAACACUAUUUCAUAUUGAAAUCAAGAAAACUUCAAGUCGAAUUAAAAUCAUCCAUGAUAUAACAUCACAAAAUACAUAUCCCAAGUUUACAUAUCACAAUAAACCAUCUCAUGAAAACAUUUCCUUACACAUGAAUAUAGCAAGAACGAACAAAAUUACACAAUAGAACAAUCGCACAUCUUUUACUGUCCCAACAGUACAGUGGACUUCAUUCCGCUCUCCUAUGAGGCAUGCUCGAGAUGCCACAACUUGUCAAUCUAUAAGAACAUUACACUUCACAUGAAUCAAUCAAAAGGAAACAAAUAUAAAAAAUAUUAGAAAUAAAAAGAUUUAUUUUCAUCCUAAAGAUGAUGUUAAAAAUCCUGAGAUAUAAAUUCUCGAGUAUAAUUAGUCCAACCUAAACAGGUCAGAGAAACUGAAAAUUAAACUUCAAACUAUCUAAGAUUGUUCCAGGAAAUUCUGGACAAAGGAAAUGCAGACAAGCAAACUUAAUAUCUUUAUGGUAUUUUCGCUUUACUAGAGGAAUUUAAGCACCGACACAAGUAGGAGUCAAUGACACAACAAUUAGCAGACAUGUAAGAUAAUACAAAACAAGCUACUCCACGUUACUGUGAUAACCAAGUGCAAACCAGGGUGUAAGAAUAUUAGCCCAAAAAAUCCUUUGGGCAACAUACAUCACUAAAUUACGCUAUCAAUAAGUGCACCAGAGACUCUAAUUUAUUACCUUCAGAAGUUUUAGAUCGAAUCAAAUGAAAACAUGAAAAGGGACUACCAAAGAGCAUUAUUGAUUUAGAUAGAGCUUUGAUGCUGAGUUGAUUUCUCGUGUCAACUGGGGUAAUUCUUUAGCCAGAUUGGAGAAAGGAAACCUGACUAGCACUCAAAAUAUUAACCAGAAGACAAUAGUAAAACAUAAAAGAUGGAUCAGAUUUCCGGCUUUUAAUCCUGAUGGGAUUACAUUUGCGCAUUGUAUACUCAUAGUCGAUAAUUUGGGGACAGUAUCCUCGGGUCCAUAUAACCCAAGGAAAAAAGCAAUUGGUCAUCACAGUAAGUGCAGAAACGUGGUAUGGAUAUGAUAUCAUCACUUCUCACAACAAACAAAAAAUGGUGUAGGAGUUUCUAUUUAUUUAAGACAAGACAACUAUACAGCAUCCAUGACAGAAUGUGUUGCUUACUAGACAUUCAGAAUAAGUAGAGAUACAAAAACAUGACUUCAGAUGCCGAAUAUGCACAGUUUAAUAAUAUACAGUAUCAUGAGACACCUAACAAGUGUUGAUCAUCACUGAUGAAUCAACCACAGAAACCAGCUGCAGAAAGAACAAUAUAGUUGAUAUGUGUAAACGGGGUAUAGUAACAGGAAGCUCCUUCUAUGAGAGCAGCCAGUGUCACAAAAACAUGUUUCCUUCUUGAUGUCUGCCAAUCUAACGAGAAACAAGGCCAUGAAAGCAGACCAAGCAUCAGAUACCUCAUGGCAUCCCAAAUACCACUAUCCAAACAAAAUUUAGUUCAGUGCUAAGAUAUGUAUGGACAAGUUGAAUGCAAAAACCAUCUCAAAGAAUGGUUCGUGCUAGAAUCUUAACCCAAAGUAUCUCUAGGCAACGUACAGCGCUGAAUUACACUACCAAGAAGCGGACCUCAGUACUCAACCUUAAAGCUGAUAAAAAUUUAGCAGAGUAUACCAAAAGAUGAAGGGGAACACUCAGCGUUUCAAAAAAGAAGGCAGCAUCAAAUACUAUAGUAAUUAUUAUUGGACAUGAUAUAGUAAGGUACUUUCACUGGUUAUUGACUGUUUUCAGUUUUCACUAAGCAUAAGUGCAUAAUAUGGAAACAAUAUAAGAGAAACCAUACACCCUCGGAUAUUAAGCUAUUCCAAGUAUGUGAGGUAUACAACUUAUAGGAGCUUACAUGACAUUCGAACCGAUAGUCCCAACGCCCAGAGCAAUGUUCUUCGAGGAAUCUAGGUGUUCUUGUUUAUUCUCUGUAAUAUCUGAUCUCGAUAACCUUUUCUUCUUCCCUCUACUGAUUAAAAAUAGAAGUAAUUAAUCCCAGUCCAAUGUGUUGAGGGAAGAAAAACAUAGCGUGUCAAAAAAGAAGGCAGCAUCAAGUACUAUAGUAAUUACUAUUGGAGAUGAUAUAGUAAGAUACUCUCACUGGUUAUUGACUGUUUUCAGUUUUCACUAGGCAUAAGUGCAUAAUAUAGAAACAAUAUAAGAGAAAACAAAAGUAGUUAGUCCUAAUAAAAUUAUUUCACAUAUUUGUGGCAUGUUCACUCUCAGUUCUUAGGAAGGGAAAAUGCAACCUAGAAUCCUAAAUUCGUUGCAUAUUUUGCCUAUGAUGAAACUAAGAAAAACUAACUUGACAAUACAUGCUAUGGACUGUAGUCUACAGAAUAAAUGACAUACAAGAUUAAAUAAUAUGAUUCUAUUUUGCAGAAGCAGCUGUUUUUUCAUACAUCCCAUGGCAUUUCUGUCGUAAUCACUAGCAACUUCAAAUAGAGUUAAGCAAAAAAUAUCAACAUUCUUUAUUGAUUUCGAUUACAUGCAAAUAAGUAAAAAUGCCCUACUCUACCAAUAAGACAUAAGUAAAGAGCUGACAACACUAGACUGUACAACUACACAAACACAUGAGGUGCUUCUAAGACAAAAAAUAAACCUGAAUUUAGUGUGAGGACUAGCCAAUCCAGAAAGUAAAAAACGCAUUACUGAACAGUCACAGUUUCCAAAACACUAGCCAAUCCAGAAAGUAAAAAACACAUUAGCAAAACUGCAGGACAACAGAAAGGAAGAGUUAAUUUGUGUAGGUGACUGAACAAUACUAUUCAUCUGGACAACAGAAAACUGAUCACCAAAUCCUUUUCAGACAACUAAUUCAUCAAAAGGAACAUGACAUAUCAGGUACUAGUUCACAUAGGACACUGAAUUUGGUAAACUGAAAUAUACCCAACAAAAUACCGAGCACAAACAACAUGUUUUAAUAAUCAUAUUCAGUUAGGGGAAGCAAGUUGGCAGACAUUUCUACAUUAGAAUGUCCACGACUAACAAAACAUUCAUGGUAACACAAAAGGCACAAUCCGGCGAAGUGUUGUAAAUUCCCUUGUAUCCGAGUGGCACAAAUCUGCCUAUUUAUGAAGUAAAUCUAGGCCGGAAUUCCUAGAAUCUCGAACCCCCGAAGUCGCUGAAUAACCAAUUUAUUAGCAGAUCCAAUGGGCUAAACUUGUGAAGUACUAGUAACAUCUAUCUAAACGCUGUCCCAGGUAACAACAGAUCCGGAAAAUCUCUAGUUGGGACGUGUCCCGCUUACUUGAGGUAGUCAUCCUUGAAGAGGUCUUCCCUGUCAUCUUCCUCCUCGUCGCGGAUAACGGUGGCGCUGUCGUCCUCGGGGAGCACAUUAAGGUCGACCUCUGCCUCGCCAUCGUUGUCCGAGUAGGAGGAUGGGUCGGUGGCGCCGUGGCUGGUGGUGGUGUUGGGCGGCAGCCAGUCGGUGUUGAAACCCAGCGAGCCGGGGGUCGACGGCGCGUUCUUCUCCGAGUCGUCCUGGGAAAAUCAAAUCAACCGACGGAAACGUCAGAUCCGGAGGCGGGAAGCAAUUCAACAAGUUAAACCAUCUAUUAAAAAAAUGAAAACCACGCGAAUUUAACAUGUAAAGAUCUAGCUCGAAGAACAAUAAUAUAUAGGUCAUAUGAAUGAUGGUUCAAAUGCAUUCAACACUUCAAAUUACUACUACUACAACUGUCCGCAAAAUUAUAGAAACUUGGCAUAUACCGCAAGCAUUUCUCUUGCACUCAGUCAGGGGAUCGACUUCCAGGUUCCAGCUAGUAGGAGAUUUUCAGUAGAUAAUUUCGAGGCCACUAUCUAAGAAAUUUCAUUAAGUGAUUUCUCUUGUUACUAAACCUACUACACUAUAGCUAGCUCACUAAGAAUUCGUACAAGCAAUCUUGUUACUAAACCUACUACACUAUAUGUCUUGUCAUUCCUGUCCUAGUUUUCAGUGUCAGGAGACUUUUACUAACUUAUGAACAGCAACUGCCACUAUUGACUUCGCCAAAUCAAUAAUUACAAUCACAAGAUCGACCAGGAAACACAGAUUUCAUGCAAAAGACACGGAAUUCAGCAACUAAAAUCCUCCAUGAACAAAGAUAUAGCAGUUGAAACAGUCCAAAUCAUUCAUGCAGUUCCUCACAAGAAAUCAAAUCAUAUGGAGGAUGGAUGGAGAGGCCUCCAUGCAUGCAUGUACGCUUCUUCUUCUUGGUCGCAGCGGGCGGGGAGGAGGUUCCCGCAAUCACGAGCUGUAGAUCGCCCUCGUAUUCACCAAUCUCCGGCGGGCUUCCGGCUAGUUACGGUGGCUUCCCGUGGUAUGGCAGCCAGAACUCCUCUCCCACAACCUCUGUUGUGCUGCUCACGGAAGGGAAGGGGUUUGGUUGGUGGUGGUGUUGGGCGGCAGCCAGUCGGUGCUGAAACCCGGCGAGCCGGGGGUCGACGGCGCAUUGUUCUCCGAGUCGUCCUAGGAAAAGCAAAUCAACCGAUGGAAACGUCAGAUCCGAAGGCGAUUGCUGAGCGUGGCGGCGGCGGCGAGAGGAGGGAGAUGGGGGAGAUGGUCGCUUACCAUCCGCGGGCCCCGAGAAGGCUCUUGUGGAGGGGGCGUGUGGUGGCGAGAUGAGGCUAGGGUUUCAGCAGGAAGGGGGGAAUGGUGGGGAGAGACGGUGUUUCGGUGGGAAGGGGGGAAUGGCUAGGGUUUCCGACGGCGGCGCGGUUCGGUGGCUGGGGCGAGAGGGGAGACGGCGGUGCGGAGUGGGGCAGGGCAACGGGCGACGGAGAUGGGGGAGAAGGGGCGCCGUGGGAGAGAGAGCGAGGGGGCGAUGGGGACACGGGACGAGGGGGCUUUCCCCUCGUCGAUGGGGUGGCGGCGUGGGGUGGAGUGGGAGUGAGGUUGUGGGUCCAUUUAGGGUUAGAUGGAGGUUAGGUGGGCUGGCUUGGGUCGGGCGAUUUGGGCCAAGGGGGUUUUCUUUCCGCCUUUUUAUUAUUUGUUUCUGUUUUUAUUUCAUUUUUUAACAGCUUUAGUUUUAUUUUAUUUUAGUGCAAUGAAAUCUCUUAAAAUUAAUAAUUCUUAAAGGAAAAUUCUCCUAGGUAAUAUCGGACACAUCCGAACAUUUUUAUUUUGACAUUCAAAAACUUUUAUUGCUUUAUUUUAUUUUUAAAUUCAUUUUCAAACUGUUUGAACUAAUGCAAGAUCAACAAUAGAAAUCACGGUGACGUGGCAACAUUAGUGUGGAAUCACUGUAGCUUAAUUACAUAGGUUACUGUAGCAACAAUUGAGGAUAUCACGUCGACCUCCACCGAGCCCUCCAUCGACUGUGGACGGCUCAGAUUGGAUAUAGUGGGGUAAUCCAUGAGAAUAGUUAUCAUUGGUUGGAAACAUCUACAAUUUAAAAUACUAGUUUCUAAGUGGUAAAAAUAUUGAGGGAAACUGGCGGAACUAAAUGAGCUAAAAUUUGGUGGAGUGAGGUUAUAUGGUCAGUUUCAUCCCGUGGUAAAAUUUCAUCAACUAUAAAUCAAUAUAAAAUGUACUUGCUUCACAAAAUUAAAAUAUUAGCACAAACAAAGAUUGAAUGAUGAGCUCACAUGGAUUGCUAGAUGGGGCUAAAAUUUUGUUGAGAACUAUGUUUUCGGCACAUAGAAGAUGUGGAAAAAAUUCAACUCAUCAGGAUAUUCCUAUCUAGUACUUCCUUCACAAAGCUAUUAGCUGAACACAAAUUUUGGAAAAUUUGUGAGAAAGAUUUACUAGGCAAAUCGUUACGAAAGUUUUCAUGAGGCAAUGAUUUGGAUAGGAAAGAGUGCGCAAAAAAUAUAAGGGUAAUCAAAGAAAUAGAAAUAGCACUUCCUUCACAAAAUGCUAUUUUGAACAGAGUAGGAAAAUGAAUAUUGCAGAAUUAUUUUUAAACUAUGGAAGGAAGGAUUUUUCACAUAUUUAAGGAAUAUAUGAUCCAAAGUAUUUAUGAGAAUUUUUUGAGAAUUUUUGGAAUGAUAGAAUAGUAGGUUGCUUCACAAACUAGGAUGAGGUGGGAUAGAAUGGACCCACGAGUGACAUGAUAGAAUAGUAGGAUGAGGUGACAUAGUUAGAACAUGUUACGACAUUUUUAUAAUCGUCGUAAAAGUUAUGACGAUCUCAUCUUAUGCGGUUACGACGUUUUUGACUCACAUCGUCAUAAUUUAUAUGUAGAUUUGAUCCCCUCAAACGGUUUACGAUGAUCUCGGAUGAAAUCGUCAUAGAAUUAUGACGAAUUCAUCAACGACAUCUAAAAAAACGUCAUGUAUGAGUAUAUUUCUUGUGGUGAAUGACCCACCAGCGCGUGGGAUCGAGGCGGUUUUCGAGGGUAGAGUAUUCAACCCAAAUUUGGUGAUUCGCCAAUAGGAAGUGAGAGGAUACUCUCAAGUAUUAGCAGCUGAAUGUGUCAGAUUCAACCACACCUGAAAGAUUAAUAUCUACAAGCAAAGUAACAACAACAAAGUAGUAUGAUAGCAACGGUGUCAGAAACAAUCUGUUGACGGCAGACUAUUCCUAACUGUCGUAUCAAUGGCGCCAGAAGUUGCCCGUUGACGGAAAUUGACUUUUCCCGUCAACGUCGAGCGAAUCAGAAUUGUAGCAGGUAGCAGCAGUGUAAUGAGUAGAAGAAGUGGCAAGGAACAGAAGUAGUGACAGCAGUAGCAAGUAGCAACAGUAGCAAGUAACAAUAGUAGCAAGUAGCAAAAGUAGCAAGUAACAGCAGAGCAAGUAACAGCAGCAGAGCAAAACAAGUAACAGCAGCAGUGGGACAAACUCAUAGGCAAUGGGUCGGUGAUUUGUUUGGAUGAUAUUCAUCAUGCAAGAGUUAUAACAUGGAGAGAUAUGUGGCUAACUCCUGUUCGUCAAUGUGAUGUAGGCAUGCAUUCCGUGUGUCGUCAUACGUGCUUAGGGAAAAGAACUUGCAUGACAUGUAUUGUCCAUCCCUCCCGUGGCAGCGGGGUCCAAAAGGAAACUACGGGAUAUUAAGGUUCUCCUUUUAAUAAAGAACCGGACCAACGCAUUAGCACUUGGUGAACACAUGAACUCCUCAAACUAUGGUCAUCAUCGGGAGUGGUUCCGGUUAUUGUCACUCCGGGGUUGUCGGGUCAUAACACAUAGUAGGUAACUACAACUUGCAAGAUCGGAUCUAAAACACACAUAUAUUGGUGACAACAUAAUAAUUUCAGAUCUGAAAUCAUGGCACUCGGGCCCUAGUGACAAGCAUUAAGCAUGGCAAACUAGUAGCAACAUCAAUCUCAGAACAUAGUGGAUACUAGGGAUCAAUCCCCGUCAAAACUAACUCGAUUACAUGAUAGAUCUCAUCCUACUCAUCACCGCCCAGCGAGCCUACAAAUAGAUUACUCACGAACGAUGAAGAGCUUCAUGGAAUUGGAGAGGGAAGAAGGUUGAUGAUGACGAUGGCGACGAUUUCCCCUCUCUGGAUCCCAAAACGGACUCCAGAUCUGCCCUCCAGAUGAAGAACAGGAUGUGGCGGCGCCUCCGUAUCGCAAACGCGACGAAAUCUUCUCUCUUGAUUUUUUCUGGGACGAAAGUGAAUUUAUAGAGCUAAGUUUGGGGGCGGCAGAGCCACGUGGGCCCCACAAGCUUGCUAGCCGCCACCUGGGGGUGGCGGCUACGGGGCUUGUGGCCCACUGGCCCAUCCCCUCCGGUGGAUAUUUGCGUAGGUAUUCCUCAUAUUUUCCAGAAAUAUUCACCGUAAAUUUUCAGGACGUUCUGAGGACUUUCAUUUCUGCACAAAAACAACACCAAGGCAAUUCUGCUGAAAACAGGGUUAGUCCAGGUUAGUUCCAUUCAAAUCAUGCAAAUUAGAGUCUAAAACAAGGGCAAAAGAGUUUGGCAAAGUAGAUACGAUGGAGACGUAUCAACUCCCCCAAGCUUAAACCUUGCUUGUCCUCAAGCAACUCAGUUGGCAAACUGAGAGAGAAAGAAAAACUUUGACAAACUCUAUUUGAUCUUGUUGUUGCAACUAUGUCUAACUCAUAACCAGAAUUUCAGCAAGAUCACAAGUUAACCACAUAAGCAAGUGACUAAAAGGUAUCACGGUAAACUAAUAUCAAUGGCAUAAUCAGCUAACGAGCAAAUAAUAAUGAGUUUCAAAUACCAACACUUCAAUCAAAACAAGCAUGAAGCAAUAUGAAUAGGUGGUAUCUCGCUAGCUCUUUCUAAGACCGCAAAACAUAAAUGCACAACACUUUCACAGAUCAAGGGCUGACUAAACAUUGUAAUUCAUAGCAACGAAGAUCCAGUCAUAGUCAUAGUCAAUAUCAAUCAAAAGCAAAGCAUAAAAAUGACAAAGGUGCUCUCUAAUUGGUGCUUAUACAAGAGGAGGAUGACUCAACAGGAAAAUAAAUAGACAGGCCCUUCACAGAGGGAAGCAUUGAUUUGCAGAGGUGCCAGAGCUCAAGCUUUGAAAAUAGAGAUAGUAAUUUUGGGUGGCAUGCUUUCAUUGUCAACACAAUGACCAAGAGUUCCCAAUAUCUUCCAUGCUACUAAUGCUAUAGGCGGUUCCCAAACAGAAAAGUAUAGUUUUAACUCCCCCACCACCAAUCAAUUACACUCCACGGCUAGCCAAAUCCUCGGGUACCGUCCAUACUAACAUCAAUCCGGGGGGGGGAGUCUUGUUUUACAGUUAUGUUUUCGAUUUAAGCAUGGAACUGGGCAUUCCAAUUACCUGCCCCUUUCUCAUGAAUGACAAUGAAUAAACACAUGUCGAGGAUAACACUCCUAGCAUGGAAGAUACCAAUAGCCCCCUGUCACCACAUGAGCGGUUCGGGCAUGCAAAACAGAUUAUUUCUGGAAGGUUUAGAGAGUGGCACAUGCAAAUUUACUUGGAAUGGCAGGUAGAUACCGCAAAUAGGUAGGUAUGGUGGACUCUCAUGGAAAAACUUUUGGGUUUAUGGAUGUGGAUGCACAAGCAGUAUUCCACUUAGUACAAGUGAAGGCUAGCAAAAGACUGGGAAGCGACCAACUAGAGAGCGACAACAGUCAUCAACAUGCAAUGAGUUUGACUAACAUUGAAUGCAAGCAUGAACACGAUAUAAAUCACCAUGAACACGAACGUCAUAGAGGCUAUGUUGAUUUUGUUUCAACUACAUGCAUGAACAUGCGCCAAGUCAAGCCACUUGAAUCAUUCAAAGGAGAAUACCAUCCUAUCAUACUACAUCAUAGUCAUCUCAAAAUCUAUGUUGGCAUUCAAGACAAACCAUUAUAAGCUCCUAGCUAAUUAAGCAUGGCAUCAGAAACUAUGAUCUCUAAGUUGUCAUUGCAAACAUGGUUCUCUCACAACAAAGCUAAAUCAGGCAUGACAAGCUAGUCAUAUUUACAAAAACAAAAUAGAUAGAGUUCAUACCAGCUUUUCCAGUCUCAGUCACUUCAUCAUAUAUCAUCAUUAUUGUCUUUCACUUGCACGAUCGAACGAAGUGAACAAUAAUAAGAGUUCUCGUGCAUUGGACUAAGCUGAAUCUGCAGGCAAACACAAAGGAGAAGACAAAGUAAUAUGGCUCUUUGAAAGCUAAACAGGUAUGCAUGCAAGAACCACUAAACAUUGUAACCAAUAUCUUCUACCUUGACACAAAGAAAAAGAAAACUAUUUACACGAGAAAGCUCCCAGCAAGCAAAAGAAGAAAGAAAAAUACUUUUGGGUUUUCUCAAAAUGACACAAAACAAGAAAACGAAAAUAAACUAGCAUGGAUAAUACAGUGGCAAAGUGUGAACACCGGCUAACAAAGGGAAAGCAUAAGCAUGAACGUAAGGUCGGUGAGAACACGCACUCCCCCAAGCUUAGGCUUUUGGCCUAGCUUGGUCUACUCCCAUGGAUGGUCCUGGCGAAACCCAAAAUCAUAAUGGGUGUUAUACGGGAGUGCUGCAGCCACUGCCUGAAUAGGUGCAUCACGAAGUCGAGCAGCCGUCGCCUCCCUCUCAUACUCCUCUGCCUCUCCUAUUGUUAUGUAGUAUAUUUGUUUUACCUGAAAGUCAAAGAAAGCAGGAGCAGGAAGGGUAAUAUGGAGAACACGCUACCGGUUAAAUAUCAAGCAGUAUAGGAGGGAUCCAUGAUCCAUCUCAAGAAACUGGUAGCGUGUUAGAGCGACACGAUCAAGGUAGGCUGUACGGAGAGGAGGGUCUUCUAAACGGAUGGACACUCCAAGAAAAUUUGCUAAGCGUGUAGCAUAAAUUCCACCAAAGAAAUCCCCCUCAAUGGCAUUAUUAUUCAGCCUCCUUGCUAUUAUAGCUCCCAUAUUGAAGCUCCUCUCACCUUUUACUGCACUCUUAAGGAUACUAAGAUCGGAAGNUAAUAUGGAGAACACGCUACCGGUUAAAUAUCAAGCAGUAUAGGAGGGAUCCAUGAUCCAUCUCAAGAAACUGGUAGCGUGUUAGAGCGACACGAUCAAGGUAGGCUGUACGGAGAGGAGGGUCUUCUAAACGGAUGGACACUCCAAGAAAAUUUGCUAAGCGUGUAGCAUAAAUUCCACCAAAGAAAUCCCCCUCAAUGGCAUUAUUAUUCAGCCUCCUUGCUAUUAUAGCUCCCAUAUUGAAGCUCCUCUCACCUUUUACUGCACUCUUAAGGAUACUAAGAUCGGAAGCGCAUAGGUGACAAUGUGCACCCUUGCCGUUAAUGCACCUACCUAUGAAGAAGGCAAAGUAGUGCAAGGCAGGGAAAUGGAUGCUUCCUAUGGUGGCUUGCGUGAUAUCUCUGGUUUCUCCAACAGUUAUACUGGAGACAAAGUAUCUCACCGAAGACUUAGAAGGAUGAUUAAUACUACCCCCAUUGGGUAUCUUGCAAAUCCUAUUGAAAUCCUCCAAAUCCAUGGCGUAGGAUUUAUCAUACAGAUCAAACAGUAUGGAUGAGUCAUGGCCAACUGAAAAUUUAAAUCUACGCACAAAAGAGGCAGUGAGCAUAGCAUACUAUUCACAUUUAUCUGAGAGGAAUUCUUCUAACCCGGCAUUGCGGACAAGUGUAUCAAAAUCAUACUUGAAACCUGCUUCGAUCAUGAACUCAUCGGAAGGCCAUUCACAUGGUUGUACGGGUGUGUCCCUUAGUUGAUAUGGUUCGGGCUCCCGAAAAGAAAGACGGGGACCCUUCUUACUUGAGGAACCACCAUGAAAAUUCCUCCUGAACAUAAUUUCCUUUUGCUGAAAUUUUUGAAGUUCAAGAGAAAAGUGAAUGAAGACCAACCACACCUUGUAGCAACUACUCCUACUAGUGCCUAGAGACCGUAUCACGCGCUAAAACUACUUGGGACCAGUGAUACGUCUCAAACGUAUCUAUAAUUUUUGAUGGUUUCACGCUGUUAUCUUGUCUUCUUUGGUUGUUUUAUGUACCUUUUAUAUCUUUUUUGGGACUAACUUAUUAAUUCAGUGCCAAGUGCCAGUUCCUAUUUUUUCCGUGUUUUUCACUCUUUUCAGAUCUGAUUUUGGAACGGAGUCCAAACGGAAGAAAAACCCCAAAAUGAUUUUUUCCCGAAAGGAAGAAGAUCAGGGGGGCCUUUGGGCCAAGCCAGGUGGGCUCUAGGGAGCCCAGAAGCACCCACUCUGCCACCAGGGGAGGCGGCGGUGGGCAGGCUUGUGGCCUCCCUGGCCGCCCCCUGACCUAGAUCUUUGGCCUAUAAAUUCCCAAAUAUUCCGCAAAAAAUUAGGGCAGCCUCGAAAAUACUUUUCCGCUGCCGCAAGCUUCCGUUUCCGCGAGAUCUCAUCUGAAGGCCCUUCCUAGCACCCUGCCGGAGGGGACUUUGGAGUUGGAGGGCUUCUUCAUCAUCAUCAUCGCCCCUCCAAUGACUCGUGAGUAGUUCACUUCACACCUACGGGUCCGUAGUUAGUAGCUAGAUGGCUUCUUCUCUCUCUUGGAUCUUCAAUACGAAGUUCUCCAUGAUCUUCAUGGAGAUCUAUCCGAUGUAAUCUUCUUUGGCGGUGUGUUUGUCGAGAUCCGAUGUAUUGUGGAUUUGUGAUUAGAUUAUCUAUGAUAUAUAUUUGAGUCUUUGUUGAUUUCUUAUAUGCAUGAUUUGAUAUCCUUGUAUGUCUCUCCGAGUCUUGGGUUUGUUUGGACAACUAGAUCUAUGAUUCUUGCAAUGGGAGAAGUGCUUGGUUUUGGGUUCUGCCAUGUGGUGACCUUUCCUAGUGACAGUAGGGGCAGCAAUUGCUCGACUUUGCGCGGUUCUAUCAAUUGCUCGACAGUAAUUUGUUCACCCACCGUCUAGUUGCUUUCAUGAGAGAAGCCACUAGUAAACACUACGGCCCCCGGGUCUAUUCACAUCCAUCGUUUACAUCUCCGCUUUUACUUUGCUUUGUUACUUUGUUGCUUUCAUUUCUCACUUGCCAAACAAUCUAUAAGGGAUUGACAACCCCUUCAUACCAUUGGGAGCAAGUUUUUGUGUUUGUGCAGGAUCUUGAGAUACUCCUCCACUGGAUUGAUACCUUGGUUCUCAAACUGAGGGAAAUACUUACCACCGCUACGCUACAUCACACAUUCCGCUUCGAGGGAACACCAACGCAAGGCUCCAAGUCCACGGGGGAAAUCCUUUGCAUACUUGACCAGGAAGUCCCUUAAGGCGUAGCUGCGGCAGAAAGAUCAAGCCAAGUAUUCUCCCGUCGACGUGCCUAUUUCUGGCGCCGUUGGAAGGUCUUUUGUUGCAGUAGCAGAAGUAUUUCUGGCGCCGUUGCGGGGGAGAAGAAAUCAAGAUCUAUCCAAGUAGGUCUCACAAACUCUUCUCUUGCAUUUACUUUUGUUGCCAGGUGCCUCUCGCUUUCCUCUCCCCCACUUCAAAUUUGUCGUUUUCAUUCGCCUUUCGUCUUCGCCGUUUUCUUUUGCCUUUGUCGGUUCUCUUGCUCGCUUGUGUGCCAUGUGCCUUCAAUAUGCUUGCAUCUUUGUUUGUUAAUAUCUUUAAGAGACCCACUUAUGUGGAACAAAUUGCUAGUGAGUAAAGGGAAAUUGACUAUUUCUAUGGAGUUUUUCUUAAGAUGCGUGAAUCUGAAAAUUGUGAGGAAGAAAUUCAUGAAGUGAUUCACGAGGGCUCCUUGGAUGAAAAGCAUGACUGCAAUGGUUUCAAUAUAAAUUCUAUUAGUGACAAUCAUGCUAAGAACAUGCAAAACCCUAAGCUUGGGGAUGCUAGUUUUGCUAUGACCACUACUUAUUGCAAUAAUCAUGAUUGGGGUGAUGAUCUUUCUUAUUAUCUUGAAAAUUUAUUCAAACCUCAUGAUGAAUGUGAUAUUUGCAGCAAUACUAAAAAUGGGAUUGGAGAAGUCAUGACUUUAUUUCAUGAUAUUCCCACUAUUUUUGAAGAGCGUCAACUUUGCAUGCAUGUGGAUCAUGAAAAGAAUAUCCUAUGGGGUAGCUAUAUUGUUGAAUUUGAAUAUGAUCCCACAUGUAAUUGCCAUGAGAGAGGAAAAUAUUUUGGUAGAAACUUUCAUUUUACCAAAUUACCUCUCGUUAUGUUGAGAUUGCUAUUGUCUCUUUCUUCUUCCUUGCAUAUGGCAACUAUUGGUUGUUAUCGUGGGUAUAAGUCUGACAGUAGAAGUACGGGGUACGAAAGUAUAUGGGCAGAGCCUUAGCUAUGGCUAGGAUGUAUGAGUUCAGGCCCCUCUACGGUGGAGGAAAAAGCCCUACGUCUCAGUGCUCUUGGGAGCUUUGUGUCGAGUGUAUUAAGGGAUUACUGCAAGUGCCAACCCCUGUACCAGUGGUGAAGGGCGGCUUAUAUAGAGUGCCCUCCCCUUCAUAAUGGUCCGGUGGACAUGGGUGGAGUAGGAGCGAGUAAAGGCUGGCGUUACUGGUAACGUAAGCCUUAAAUGCUAGUUAUGGUGUAUGAAAACGUAUGACCAUUGCCCUCCUGGGAGGUUACGACGUACAGAGUGGAUUCCAGUCGGUACGUUAGAUAUGCUCCGAGUGGAUCGUCGCCGACUGGAUGAUGGGGGCGUCCUUAGUUCAGUAGGAACUGUCUAAGGGCCCUGUCCUCUAUGAAGGGUAGUCCUUGGGUAGGACCUAUAGGGCAGACCUAUGACCCCAUCAUUAGUCCCCGAAUGGGUCGGGGUUGGAACGAUGAAGUGAUGUCCGGAGUUUGGAGCCGACUGGUAUUUAGGUGAUCUUAGCGUUGUCUGCCUCGAUCCAUUUUCUCUUUGUGGCUAGUGAUCCGAGUGAAUAUGCAAGCGAAAUGAACCGUGAGGGACCGAUUGCUUCCCCGGAAUCUUUCGACGUGACCGGUCAUACUGACAGCGCCGGAUUUUCCGAGAUUCUCAAAUUUCGGUUGUCGCACGCCCAGCGGGGAUGACGACAUCGCCAUUGAGUAGAUUUCGCCUCCUCGAUUACCGCGCCGUGAUCUUCUCCACUAAUCUUGCAGUAGCUGUUUGGGAGGAUAAGAUCUUGGGCCCACAUGUAGGUGACUCAGUCGGAGGCCUAUUAAAGCCUUCCCGGCGGACCUUCUUGUUGCGCUGCUCAUCUUCCUCCCAUCGAUCUCGCCUCCCCGCAACUCCCUGCACACCUUUAGCCACCUCCUCCCCCUCCUCCUGUGCGGAUCCGUCGCCCUCGCCAUGACGAAGGGGCAGACCAGCAAGCUUGAGGCGAAGAAGAGGAAGAAGGGGGCGGCCUCCACUCAGCGGCGGCAGCGGGCGUUGCCGGCGGGCUGGAUCCAGGGGGACUUCCUCCCCUCCACGGUGAGGGAGACCGACGUGCUGGAGCUGGUGGAGCACGGCAUGGUCGUCAAUAAGUCUUGGAGGCUGCCGGAAGGCGAAAUGGAGCCGGCACCGAAGGAGGGGGAGCGCGUUCUGCUGCUCAGCCACGUGGUCAGAGGUUUCUCCCUGCCUCCCCAUCCUUUGUUCCGAGGAAUUAUGAAUUACUUUGGGGCGCAGCUCCAUCACUUUCCGCCGAAUGCGAUAGCUCAUCUUUCCGCAUUCAUCACCCUGUGCGAGUGCUUCAUAGGGUGUCCUCCCCACUGCGGGCUCUUAAAAUAUGUUUUCUCCGCUAGAUCUCAAAUGGUUAAGAAGCUUAGCCAGUCCGAUGAUAAGACACACAUCCUCCAGCUCUGCGGGGGUUUAGGAUUUUAGAAGAAAACGAAAAGUAGUUAUCCCUCCCUUUAGCUAUCUGAGUCGGUUAGGAACUGGCAAUCGUCCUGGUUCUAUUGCCAGGACAUUGCCUGCCCGAAUGCUUCGAGUGGAUUACCACCCUUCAGUUUAGACCGUCCGGGCCCUCCCAGAAAGCUAGCGCUCUCUAAGUGAGAAAAACCCAGAUCCAGCCUUUGAUCGACACGCUGAUAGCCGUCGUCCGGAAGGGAGUCACCGACAUGGACCUGUUGGAGACUUUUCUGGGUCGAUGCAUCCAGCCGCUCCAGGCCCGAGACCACGCAAUGUGGCAUUACACGGGGCCUUCGGAUACCACUCGGUCCCAUCCUUAAGAUGUGAGCGAGGAGACCAUGGGUGCGUGGGUCCACAGCAUCACGGGCACAUGUGAUAACCCCGUGGGAGCUCGGCGGGUGAAGGGCUUCCACGCCCAAAAUCCUCCUCCGAAUGAGGUGAGUACAUGUUGUCGAGUGCUUUUAACCUUCUCAGUUUUAUUGCUUUUCUUGUCUCGCUGACUGAUGUUGCCGACUAUGUUUUGUGCAGGAGUGGACGAACUAGCAUUCUGCAGUCUCAAAUGGGAAUCCGGUCAAGGAAGAAGAAGGAAGCAUGGAGGGUAGCGCGGGUAGUGCCGAGUAUGUCUCUGACAGUAGGGAGACGGAGGAGGAAACAAAAGAGGAGGAGGAGGAGAGUGAAGAGCAGAGCUCGUCACCCUCACCACCAGAACACCGAACGAAGCACUGUCAUGACCCCGUUGUUCCGCCGGCUCCUCCCGUGGCCCCGAGUGCUCGGAGUGUGAACAGAACACGGGGUUCUUCUGUCGAGCCCGUGGAUCAGCCGUCCAAGGUGGCUAAACCCAGCGGGUCUAAACAUCGGAAAGCUUUGCCCCGGAUGAGGAUCGUUGUUCCGGUGGCCUCAGCGUAAGUAUCUUUGCUCUUCCAUCUUCCUUCAGUAUCCGAUUGAACUCUUCUUUUUGGGAAUUCAUGUUUACCCGUCGAAUGGAUUUCACUCAACAGAGCUGCUACCUCCUCCACCUCUCUGCUGCGUCAGGGUGACGAUCCCAUGGACACUGAUAACGCCGCCACGUCCCAGCAAGGUACGUUGUCACGAAUCCAAGAGCUGUAUUACCGUUUCGCGAGUGCUGUCUUUGAUCUUGAUCUUUUUCUGUAUUUUUAUUUUGUUCAGUCGGGCUUCCUUCGGAGGUGAUUCAUCUGGACGACGACGACCAAAGGAGGUCGGAACCAGCUUUGGCACCUGUCCUUGGGGUUAUCCAACCUACUGCCAACCCCGCCAUGAGCGUGCCGCCGACUGAGACGGUGUUCUUCACGGCGGAACCGACUGGAGCAGAGCUCGGGAUACCUAGGGCGCCUUCUGCCACGCCGGGUCCGUCGACUGUUCAAUAUGAUGCCCGGCGCCUCCCGGAAGAUCAAGUAGGAGCCGCCAAGGAUGCCAUGGUACAAGUGGAGCUGAUGGUGGGCGAAGCCAAGGGAGCAUAUGACUCCGUUGCGUCCCUGUACAAGAAGAGCUUGGAGCUUCGGGAUGAUAUCCGAGUAAGUGCGCUAGUAAGUGUUUUGGCAAGAUACUCGGAUACAGUAGGUUAAUUUUCCAGUGGGUUCACUCCGAGUGAACCCAGUGGGUGUAGUCCCCGAGACUUCUGCCGAGUGCUUGCACCGCAGUUGUCUUUAUAUGUAUUUUCCAUAAUCUCUACAGAUCAGAGCUGAUCUGCCCGAAUGGUACCAGUGGGGGCACGCCGAGUGCAACCACUGGGUGUAGUCCCCGAGAGUAGUGUUACUCGGGUCGAGUAAUAGUAAUCUCGUAGUGUUGUUGGUUUGCUAUGGAGCUCAAUGGGACCGACCGGUUCGAGCUUCAUACCAGUGGGUUCACUCUCAGUGAACCCACUGGGUGUAGUCCCCGAGACCACUGUCGAUUGCUUGCAUCGGCAGGGGUCUGAAGAAUCUUGAGCUUUGAUUGUUUUGUCAUAUCUGUCGAGACUUUUCCUUCUUGAAUCUGGCUGAUCCUCCCUUUGUGUCUCUUUGACAGAAGACUUGUGAAAUGGGAUCGGCUUAUAAUGCUCUGAAGGCUGAGAAGACUCAACUUGCUGCCGACUUGGAGGUAGCUGCGAAUGAUCUGGCUGGCAUGAAGAAGGCACUCGCUGAACGAGAAAUAUCUUUGGAGGAAUCUCGGGGGACUAACAAGGCACUACUAGCUGAGUUAGAAAAAAUGAAGAAGGAGAGAUCUGAAUGGGUGGGCCAGCUGAAGUCAAUGAACGCUCGGUGCAAAGCGCAGGAGAACUACGUCGGCGACUGGGCGAAGAAGAUGGUCGCACUGCUUGGUGGUAAGUAGCUUGCCGAGUGCUCUUUGACUUUGGAGUUCACUCCGCGCUUCUUUUCUCCCUGUCUUUUCUUUGCAGAUUUCUGUCACGACGUUGAAGCUGAAACCGCCGAAAUUGAACGGUCGCUUGGGCAACCGAAUGUUCCACUCGGUGAUGAAGCUAACCGGGACAUGUUCCGUCUGAAUUCCCGCCUUAACAAGGUGGGUCCUUUCAUUGGUCGCCUGAGAGAAGUUGUGGGCCGAAUUCACAAAGAGCUGUGGCCUGAAGAUGACUCCCGGAAUGAGAUAGAGGGGUUGACGACUCGACUGGAGGAUGCUCCAAGCAGUGUGCAGGCAUGGAAGAAGUUUGCCGCUCGGUGUGGCGCGGACGUGGCGUUGUCUCUAGUCUGAGUGCAUUGUAAGGAAGCCCGUGAAGACAAGCUGAAGAGGUUGCAGGUCGCCAACACCAAGAAGCUUCGAUUUGAAGACUUCAUGGAGACCUUUCUCGACACGGCCACUCGUAUUGCAGAUGGAAUCGACCUCGACACCUUCGUGGAGCCUGCCAGCUCCGGCGAUGCUUGAUUGACUUUAUGCUGAGCAUGCAUUUACCUCGGUAUGCCGAGUGGAGUUUGUAUUAAACUUUGGCCACUGCUGUUGGCCGGUACAUUCGUGGCUCAGUGUGGAUAAACUUGAUUCACACCGAGCCGACUGAUCGUUGAACUCAAUUUGAAUUCGAACCGGAUCUUUUGCUCUUCUUUCGUUGAGUUUUUUUUACACGAGUUUUGCUCGUGGUUUUUGUUUAGGCGACUCAGCUAAACCUCCGAGUGUAACUUGUGUGCCCACUCAGAGGAAGCUCUUUACUUAGGCAACUCUGGUUCGCAACUAAGUCCUCGAGUGUGACUUUUGGUGCACACUCGGAGUUAGUUUUUACUUAGGCAACUCUGGAUCGCAGCUAAGUCCCCGAGUGUGACUUUUGGUGCACACUCGGAGCAAGUUGUUUACUUAGGCGACUCUGAGUCGCAGCUAAGUCCCCGAGUGUGACUUUUGGUGCACACUCAGAGCGAGUUGUUUACUUAGGCGACUCUAGGUCGCAGCUAAGUCUCCGAGUGUGACUUUUAGUGCACACUCGGAGCGAGUUGUUUACUUAGGCGACUCUGGGUCGUAGCUAAGUCCCCGAGUGUCACUUUUGGUGCACACUCGGAGCGAGUUGUUUACUUAGGCAACUCUGGGUCGCAGCUAAGUCUCCGAGUGUGACUUUUUGUGCACACUCGGAGUGAGUUGUUUACUUAGGCGACUCUGGGUCGCAGCUAAGUCCCCGAGUGUGACUUUUGGUGCACACUCGGAGGGAGUUGUUUACUUGGGCGACUCUAGGUCGCAGCUAAGUCCCCGAGUGUGACUUUUGGUGCACACUCGGAGCAAGUUGUUUACUUAGGUGACUUUGGGUCGCAGCUAAGUCUCCGAAUGUGACUUUUAGUGCACACUCGGAGCGAGUUGUUUACUUAGGCGACUCUGGGUCGCAGCUAAGUCCCCGAGUGUGACUUUUGGUGCACACUCAGAGCGAGUUGUUUACUUAGGCGACUCUGGGUCGCAGCUAAGUCCCCGAAUGUGACUUUUAGUGCACACUCGGAGCGAGUUGUUUACUUAGGCGACUCUGGGUCGCAGCUAAGUCCCCGAGUGUGACUUUUGGUGCACACUCAGAGCGAGUUUUUAACUUAGGCGACUCUGGGUCGCAGCUAAGUCCCCGAGUGUGACUUUUGGUGCACACUCGGAGCAAGUUGUUUACUUAGGUGACUCUGGGUCGCAGCUAAGUCCCUGACUGUGAAUUUUGGUGCACACUCGGAGCAAGUUGUUUACUUAGGCAACUCUGGGUCGCAGCUAAGUCCCCGAGUGUGACUUUUGGUGCACACUCGGAGUUAGUUUUUUAGACCGGAGUCUGCAAACGCAGAAGAAUUUUGAAUCGGCAAGAAAUUCAUCCGCUUUGUAUUACUUCGAUGACAUUUGUUCUUUACAUUGUCUCUGUCGGCGGUUAUGUGUAGAAGUGCUUCAGUAGAUCUCCAUUCCAUGCCCGCGGCUCGUCCGUCUCCCUGUCGAGGUUGUAGAGUCGAUACGCUCCAUUGUUCCGUACCUUAGAAAUGAUGAACGGUCCUUCAUAGGCGGGAGCCAACUUGUGUGGUCUCUGUUGAUCCACUCGGAGCACCAGGUCUCCUGCUUGGAACGUGCGGCUCCUGACGUGCCGCUCAUGAAAUCGCCGCAGAUCUUGUUGAUAAAUUGUUGAACGGAUCAAUGCCAUCUCGCGCUCCUCUUCCAAAAGGUCUACUCCGUCUUGCCUGGCUUGCUCUUCUUCGGCUUCGGAGAAGAGUUCGACUCGUGGAGAGUUGUGAAGCAAGUCACUUGGAAGGACUGCCUCUGCUCCAUAAACGAGGAAAAAUGGGGAUCGUCCUGUCGAUCUAUUCGGGGUUGUUCGGAGGCCCCACAGCACCGAAGGCAGCUCGGUGACCCAUGCGCCGGCGGCAUGCCCAACUUCCCGCAGGAGUCGAGGCUUCAACCCUUAAAGAAUGAGUCCAUUCGCCCGCUCCGCUUGUCCAUUUGUUUGGGGGUGCGCAAAGGAUGCAAAAUACACUCGGAUACCUUGGCCUACGCAAAAACCUUUGAACUCGUCCGAGUUAAAGUUUGGGCCAUUGUCGGUGAUUAUGCUGUGUGGAACCCCGUAUCUGGCAAUGAUGUCUCUGAUAAAUUUGAUGGCCGUAAGGGCAUCAAGCUUCUUGAUUGGCUUGGCUUCAAUCCACUUGGUAAACUUGUCGACUGCUACCAGCAGAUGGGUGAAUCCUCCUUGGCUUGUUCUGAAUGGUCCGACUGUAUCUAAUCCCCACACGGCCAAUGGCCAAGAAAGGGGAAUUGUCUUCAGCGCGGACGUUGGCUUGUGGGACUUGUUUGAAUAGAACUCACAACCUUCGCAAUGGUCGACUAUAUCUUUUGCCAUUUCAUUCGCCUGCAACCAGAAGAAACCAGCUCUGAAUGCUUUGGCAACGAUCGCCCUUGAGGAGGCAUGAUGACCACAGGUUCCUGAGUGAAUUUCUUCCAAAAUUAACCGACCCUCCUCAGGAGAGAUACACCCCUGAAGGACGCCUGAAACACUUUCUCUGUAUAACUGGUCAUCAAUGACGGUGAAGGACUUCGACCUGCGAAUGAUCUGCCUAGCUUGGACCUCAUCUUCCGGUAACUCUUGCCUCAGGAUGUACGCAAUGAGUGGCACAGUCCAUUCGGGAAUGACAGCUAGAAUCUCCAUGACCAGGUCAACCACAGCGGGAAACUCGACUUCGAUCUGAUCUAUUGAGCUCUUCGGUUGCACAAGUUCCUCUAUAAAAGGAUCUUCUUUUACCGAGGGGAGGUGUAAGUGCUCGAGGCAGACAUCACUCGGGACAGGUCUCCGUGUGGAUCCAAGUUUUGCCAAUUCAUCUGCUGCUUGGUUUUUCAGUCGGGGAACAUGGUGAAGUUCCAUACCUUCGAACUUCUUUUCGAGCUUUCUUAUUGUGUUGCAGUAUGCAGUCAUGGUGGGGUUCCUUACAUCCCACUCCUUCAUUACUUGAUUAACCACUAGAUCUGAGUCGCCAUAGACCAUCAGGCGACGGACGCCGAGUGUGAUGGCCAUGCACAACCCGUAAAGGAGAGCUUCGUACUCUGCUUCGUUGUUGGAAAAAUCAAAAUGGAUCUGCAACACAUACUUGAGUUUAUCACCUUUCAGGGAUAUGAGCAGUACGCCGGCGCUGGAGCCAUUCAACAUCUUGGACCCAUCGAAGAACAUGGUCCAAUGAGCCGAGUAGAUGUGAGUCGGUUGCUGUUGCUCUACCCAUUCUGCCAUGAAGUCGGCAAGAGCUUAAGACUUUAUAGCUUUCUUGGCUUCGAACUUGAUGUCGCAGUAUAGCAUAUCCAUUGCUCACUUUGCCACUCGGCCUGAUGCGUCCCGAUUGUGGAGAAUUUCCGACAACGGAGCAUCAGAUAUGACAGAUACCGAGUGGUCUUGGAAAUAAUGAGCCACGUGCUUUGCAGUCAUGUAGAUCCCAUAAAUAAGCUUCUGAUAAUGGGGACACCUCUGCUUGGAAGGAGUCAGGACUUCAGAAACAUAAUAUACUGGCCGCUGAACCUUGUACGCUUUGCCUUCUUCUUCGCGUUCGACUGUCAGAAUAGUGUUGACGACUUCGUUUGUAGCCGCGAUGUACAAAAGAAGGGGUUCUUUACUGAGUGGGGCAGUAAGAACCGGCUGGGUGGAAAGCAGGGCUUUGAGGUCGUCGAAUGUGGUUUGGGCUUCGUUUGUCCACUCGAAGGUAUCCGACUUCUUCAUGAGUCGGUACAGAGGUAACGCCUUCUCGCCGAGUCGAGCGAUAAACCUGCUCAAAGCCGCUAGAAAACCUAUGAGCUUUUGUACGUCAUGUACUCUUACCGACCGCUCCAUUCGAACAAUGGUCCCGAUGUUUUCGGGGUUGACAUCGAUCCCUCGUUCGGAAACAAAGAAACCGAGUAACUUCCCGCUGGGAACGCCAAAUGAACACUUGGCUGGGUUUAGCUUGAUAUUGUACCUACGUAGGUUGGCGAAUGUUUCUGCCAAGUCAGUCAGUAGGUCGGAACCUUUGCGUGACUUGACUACGAUAUCGUCCAUAUAUGCCUCCACAUUUCGACCAAUCUGGUCUAGGAGGCAUUUUUGGAUCAUUCGCAUAAAAGUUGCUCUUGCAUUUUUCAAACCGAAUGGCAUAUUGAUGUAACAGAAGCACCCGAAUGGGGUGAUGAAAGAUGUUUUUAAUUCAUCCGGACCAUAUAGACGGAUCUGAUGGUAGCCCGAAUAGGCUUCAAGGAAGGAUAAGCGCUCGCAACCCGCAGUCGAAUCAACGAUUUGAUCUAUGCGGGGGAGCGGGAAGUGGUCUUUCGGACAGACCUUAUUAAGGUCCUUGAAAUCGAUGCACAUACGAAGAGACUUGUCCUUCUUGGGCACCAUGACAACAUUAGCGAGCCACUCGGAGUGGUGUACCUUGCGAAUGAAGUUGGCUGCCAGAAGUUUAGCUACCUCCUCUCCGAUUGCUUUUCUCUUGUGCGCGGCAGACCGACACAGUCGUUCUCGGACGGGCCGAGCGGCAGGAUCCACAUGCAGUCGGUGCUCAGCCAACUCCCUGGGUACACCUGGCAUGUCAGCAGGCUUCCAUGCAAAAAUGUCCCAGUUCUCAUGAAGGAAUUGGAUGAGCUCGGUUUCCUAUUUUGGAUCAAGGGUGGUGGAGAUGUUUGUUGGGGCGGUGGUGGCAUCCGUCGGGUGGACUCUUACUUUUUUCGUGUCUCCCGCCGACUGGAAUGCGGACUCGGAAGCUGGCUUCUUUGAACGCAUCAGGUCGGCAGGGUCGGCAAUCUUCUUGUACUCAUCCAACUCGAGUACAGCCAUCUGAUGGUCUGCAAUUCUCAACCCCUGCUGCAGACACUCCUCGGCUCGUUGCCGAUUGCGUGUGACAGUAAUCACGCCUUUGGGACCAGGCAUCUUCAGCUUCAAAUAUACGUAACAUGGACGGGCCAUGAAACGUACAUAUGCCGGACGGCCCAGAAUGGCAUGGUAUGCACUCUGGAAGUCUACCACCUCGAAUGUUAACUUCUAUUUGCGGAAGUUCUUGUCAGAGCCGAAGACGACGUCCAACGCAAUCUGGCUGAGAGAUUUUGCCUUUCUUCCUAGGACGACUCCAUGGAAUUGCAUACUGCUUUCGCUAAGUCUGGACAUCACAAUGCCCAUUCCCUUGAGAGUAUCGGUGUACAUGAUAUUCAAGCCGCUGCCGCCGUCCAUGAGGACUUUGCGCAGCCUAACUCCUUCCACCACCGGGUCGACGACCAGAGCUUGCCUCCAUGGGGUGGGUACGUGUGCUGGGUGGUCUGCCUGAUCAAAAGUGAUUGCAGUCUGUGACCACUUGAGGAACGUGGGAGUGGAUGGGGUUGCCAUGUUUACCUCCCUGCUGACCAGCUUCAGUCGACUUUUGCUUUCUACAUCAGCAAAAAUCAUUAAUUUUGCAUGGACUUGAGGGAACGGAUCCUCCUUGUCCUCAUCAUCUUUCUCGGUGUCUUUCUCACUCGGCUGUCCUUCACCGAAUCCUUGGAUCAGGAGGCGACACUACCGAGUGGUAUGUUUCGGCAAUAUGACAUUGCCUUCUUCAUCCAUCUUCGUGUGGAUUGGACACGGCUGAUCUAGGAUGGAAUUUCCUGACUGUUUCUUCUUGGGGGUGUACUGUGGUUUCCCCUUGCCUUUGAACUUAGCGUUUGUAACGACUGCCGCCUCUGCUUGCGGAGUGGAUUGGGCUUUCUAUUUCUGCUUCCGACUGCUGCUCCCAUCUCCGUCGGCGACUGACUUAUGCUUGCCGCUACGUAUGCGGUCCUCCUCUUCGCCAUUUGCAUAGCACGCAGCUAUCUCCAUCAUCUUGCUCAUGGAGAUGUCGCCUGUCCGACCAAACUUCAGGUAUAGAUCUUUGUACCGAACGCCUGCCUUGAAGGCGCAGACUGCUUGGUGUUCUGUAACAUUCUCCACCGUGUGGUAGAGGGUUGUCCAGCGUUGGGUAAAAUCGCGCAGGGGCUCGUUUUGCUUCUGGACACAGUGCUGAAGCUUUGUGAGACCAGCGGGGCAUUUGCACGUACCCUUGAAGGUCCUGAUGAAGACUCGGGACAGAUCUGCCCAACUCGAAAUGGUUGAUGGAGCUAACUGGUUUAGCCAAGCUCGAGCCGAACCGUCGAGCAUCAAUGGGAGAUGUUUCAGGGCGACAUGGUCAUCUCCGCCACCGAUGUGGACCACCACUCUGUAGUCGUCUAACCAAGUUUCUGGUUUGGACUCUCCUGUGAAUUUGCUGAAUCCCGUCGCCAAUCGGAAGUUGGGAGGGAUGUCAGCCGAGCGAAUGGCCCGACUGAAACACUCGGGACCAGAAACAACGGUCCUGCUUCCACUCGGAUGAUCUCUAUCGUGACCACCACGGUGGGCUCGGCUUCUAUCAACCUUCUUUUGAGUGAUAUACCCUCUUGCAUCAGGCCUUUGAUCAUGCGCGUCACCGCCCGAACGACAAUCAUCGUAAUGCGGGGGUCCGUAAGGCCCACUCCGCCGAGGAGUACGCGAACGGCGAUGAUCUUCGGGAUGAGACCGAAUGGAAGGUGGAUUCCGACUCUGGUCCCUGGAAUGAUCGUUCCAGAGGCUGCCCCCUCUGCGACGCUGGUGAGAGCUGGGACUGAAAACCGACCGAUGUGUGUUCGCUUGAACGGAACUGUUGUGGAUCUUGUUGUGCGACUGGGAGACCGCCGAGUUUUGCUGCUGCACCGUAUGUAACAAGGCACGGAUCUGCUCAAUUCCUCUACCAGCCUCUGAAUCAGUCGGCUGGAGAGAAUCAGUGAUCUUGGCGGCUGCAGCCAAGUUGAGGAUGGGUGUGCGGAACACCUCGACGUGGCUCUGGCGAACGCGUCGACUGGAAGAACGAGGGUGCUGACGACGAGCGCCGGAUGAUUCUCCGAUCUCACGCUCGUUCCGACCAGUCCCGGGCGACUUUUGUGGGAAUCGGCCAUGAGCACUUCGGCCGUAGGCCCGUGACCCUGAUACUCGGAAGGUAGUUCAGUCGGAAAUGAGUCCAAGCACUGGGAUGACCGCGGGACCACAACCGAUUCAAGCACCACCACUUGAGAGGACAUGUUUUGUCGCGCUAGGGCGUGUCGCACCCAACGCUGGAGCCCCGAACGACCGGAUAGCUUGUUGCGGUGCGUGACGGGGGCGAAGAUCGAAACCGGGGUCGAUGGCUGGACAAGAAGAACACCGCAGGAACUGGCACGGAAGUGCGUAGCCCCGCGACUCGGAAGCGUCUUGACAUCGAGGGGCGCAUCCUGAUGCCAUGCCGAAUCAUCAGCGAUGAAGGAGAGCGCACCGAAGAGGAUCUCACGACCCAUGCACAGAUCUCCGCCGGAUGACAUGACGAAGAGAUGAAAUCACAAACUCGCCGGAAGUCGCUUAUACGCCAGCCCCACGGUGGGCACCAACUGUCGUGGGUAUAAGUCUGGCAGUAGAAGUACGGGGUAUGAAAGUAUAUGGGCAGAGCCUUAGCUACGGCGAGGAUAUAUGAGUUCAGGCCCCUCUACGGUGGAGGUAAAAGCCCUACGUCUCAGUGCUCUUGGGAGCUUUGUGUCGAGUGUAUUAAGGGAUUACAGCAAGUGCCAACCCUUUUAGCAGUGGUGAAGGGCGGCUUAUAUAGAGUGCGCUGCCCUUCAUAAUGGUCCGGUGGACAGGGGUGGAGUAGUGGAGAGUAAAGGCUAGCGUUACUGGUAACGUAAGCCUUAAAUGCUAGUUAUGGUGUAUGAAAACGUAUGACCGUUGCCCUCCUGGGAGGUUAUGCCGAACAGAGUGGAUUCCAGUCGAUACGUUAGAUAUGCUCCGAGUGGAUCGUCGCCGACUGGAUGAUGGGGGCGUCCUUAGUUUAGUCGGAACUGUCUAAGGUCCUUGUCCUCUAUGAAGGGUAGUCCUUGGGUAGGACCUAUAUGGCAGACCUAUGACCCUACCCUGGGACUAUAACCCCACCAGUUGUCUUGACAAUCUGUUUUCCUAUAAAAUGCCUAUGCAUAGGAAGUAUGUUAGACUUAGAUAUGAUUUUCACAUGCUUUAGGAUGCUCUCGUUGUGCUUCAAUUCUUGUCUUUUGUGAGAGCAUCAUUGAAUGCCUAGCUAAGGGCGUUAAACAAAAACGCUUGUUGGGAGGUAACCCAACGACUCUAUCCUUUUUCUUUCUGUUUUGUGUUUCCCACACUUUCAUAAUUCUGUUAUGAUUGUGUUUUUUUUGUUUCUUUUUGCGUUUGUGCCAAGCAAAACCGUUAUGAUUAGUCUUGGGGAUGAUCGUUUGGCCAUGCUGGAAAAGACAGAAACUUUCUGCUCACGAAAAGAAUUUUCAUUUUUUGUCUGUAAGAGAUUUUGAGUUGAUUCUUUUUGCUGCUGAUUGCUACAGAAGUUCUUCAGACUGUCUUAAGUUUUCAGAAUUUUUGAAGUAACAGAGUUAUACGGAAUAUACAGAUUGCUACAGACUGGUCUGCUGUUAACAGAUUCUGUUUUUGUUGUGUUGGUUGCUUAUUUUGAUGAAACUAUGGAUAGUAUCGGGGGGUAUUAGCCAUGGAAGAUUGAAAGUACAGUAACCCAACAUCAGCACAAGUAGAAUUUAAGUUUGCUACAGUACCUAAGGAAGUGGUGGUUUGCUUUUUCUUGUACUAAUGUUAUCACGAGUUGUUGUUUAUGUUUCGUGUUGUGAAGUUUUCAAGUUUUGGAUGAAGUUCUUAUGGACAAAGAGAUAAAGAGUGGCAAGAUCUCAAGCUUGGGGAUUCCCAAGGCACCCCAAGAGAUUCAAGGAUGCCGUAAAAGCCUAAGCUUGGGGAUGCCCCGGGAAGGCAUCCCCUCUCUCGUCUUCAAUCCAUCGGUAACGUUACUUGGGGCUAUAUUUUUAUUCACCACAUGUUAUGUGUUUUUGCUUGGAGCGUCUUGUAUCGUAGGAGUCUUUUUUUUGUUGUGUCACAAUCAUCCUUGCUGACACCUAGAGAGAGAGACAUGCACACACCGUGAUUUUGUCGAGCUUCACUUAUAUCUUUUGGUAGACAAUUCAGCUCACAUGCGCUUCACUUAUAUCUUUUGAGCUAGAUACUUUUGCUCUAUGUGCUUCACUUAUAUAUUUUAGAGCACAGAGGUGCGUGGCUUGGUAGCUGAUCUAUGCUUUGAAAGUAGUCUCAAAAGGGGUAGUUAUCCAAAGGGAUACGAAAACUUCCACCUUCAUGUGCAUUGAAUAGUUAGAGAAGUUUGAUUCAUCUCAAUUAGUUUUGAGUUCUGGUUAUGGUAAUAUUAAAGUCAUGCUAGUAAGGUGUUGUGGAUCUAGAAAUACUUGUGUUGAAGUUAGUGAUUCCCGUAUCAUGCACGUAUGUGAACCGCUAUGUGAUGAAAUCUAAGCAUGAUUAGUCUAUUGAUUGUCAUCCUUUGCGUGGCGGUCGGGAUCGCGCGAUGGUUUAUACCUACCAGCCCUUCCCCUAGGAGUAUGUGUUGAAUGCUUUGUUUCGAUUACUAAUAAAUUUUUUGCAACAAGUAUAUGAGUUCAACACGACUAAUGUUGAGUCCAUGGUUUAGAUGCACUUUCACCUUCCUUCAUCACUAUCUUCUUAGUGCCGUGCAACUUUCGCCGGUGCACAAAACCCACCAUUAGCCUCCCUCAAAACAGCCACCAUACCUACCUACUAUGGCUUUUUCAAAGUCAUUCCGAGAUAUCUUGCCAUGCAACUACCACCAUGACAUGUGCCACCACGUCUACAUUGCCAUUGCAUGAUCGUAAGAUAGCUAGCAUGAUGGUUCCAUUGAUGUCUAUGCCAUGCUAGAUCAUUGCCACGGUACACUACCGAAGGCAUUCCAUAUAGAGUCAUCGUUACUCUAAGUUUUGAGUUGAAAGUGUGAUGAUCAUCAUUAAUGGAGCAUUGUCCCAUGUGAGGAAAUAAAAGAGGCCAAGGAAGCCCACCAAAAAAAAGAGGCCAAAGAGCCCACCAAAAUAAAAAAAAAUGAGAGAAAAAGAGAGAAGGGACAAUGCUACCACUUUUUCCACACUUGUGCAUAUUGAGCACCAUGAUCUUCAUGAUUGAGAGUCUCUCGUUUUGUCACCACCAUAUAGCUAGUGGGAAUUUUUCAUUAUAUAACUUGGCUUGUAUAUUCCUAUGAUAGGCUUCCUCAAAAUUGCCUUAGGUCUUCGUGAGCAAGCAAGUUGGAUGCACACCCACUAGUUUUCUUUAAGAGCUUUCACAUACUCAUAGCUCUAGUGCAUCAAUUGUAUGGCAAUCCCUACUCAUUCACAUUGAUAUCUAUUGAUGAGCAUCUCCACAGCUCAUUGAUUUGCCUAGUUAAUGUCACUAUCUUCUCCUUUUUGUCUUGCAACCUCCACUACAUUCCACACCAUCUAUAGUGCUAUAACCAUGGCUCACGCUCAUGUAUUGCGUGAGAGUUGAAAAGGUUUGAGAAAGUAAAGGUGUGAAACAAUUACUUGGCCAAUACCGGGGUUGUGCAUGAUUUAACUUCAUUGUGCAAUGAUGAUAGAGCAUAGCCAGACUAUAUGCUUUUGUAGGGAUAACUUUCUUUUGGCCUUGUUAUUUUGAAAGUUCAUGAUUACUUUGCUAGUUUGCUUGAAUUAUUAUUGUUUCCACGUCAGUACCAAACUAUUGUUUUGAAUCUAAUGGAUCUGAACAUUCACAUCACAUGAGAGGAAUUACAAAGGACACCUAUGCUAGGUAGCAUGAAAGCAUCAAAAAUUCAUUCUUAUCACUUCCCUACUCGAGUACGAGCAGGAGUUAAGCUUGGGGAUGCUUGAUACGUCUCAAACGUAUCGAUAAUUUUUUAUGGUUUCACGUUGUUCUGUUUUCUUCUUUGGUUGUUUUAUGUACCGUUUAUAUCUUUUUUGGGACUAACUUAUUAAUUCAGUGCCAAGUGCCAGUUCCUUUUUUUCCCAUGUUUUUGACUCUUUUCAGAUUUGAUUUUGGAACGGAGUCCAAAUGGAAGAAAGACCCCGAAAUGAUUUUUUCCCGAACAGAAGAAGAUCAGGGGGCCUUUGGGCCAAGCCAGGUGGGAUCCAGGGAGCCCACAAGCCCCCACUCCACCACCAGGGGGGGAGGCUGCGAUGGGCAGGCUUCUGGCCUCCCUGGCCGCCCCCUGAUCUAGAUCUUUGGCCUAUAAAUUCGCAAAUAUUCUGCCAAAGAUCAGGGGAGCCUCGAAAAUACUUUUCCGCCUCCGCAAGCUUCCUUUUCCGCGAGAUCUCAUUCGGAGACCCUUCCCGGCACCCUGCCGGAGGGGACUUUGGAGUUGGAGGGCUUCUUCUUCAUCAUCAUCGCCCCUCCAAUGACUCAUGAGUAGUUCACUUCAGACCUACGGGUCCGUAAUUAGUAGCUAGAUGGCUUCUUCUCUCUCUUGGAUCUUCAAUACAAAGUUCUCCAUGAUCUUCAUGGAGAUCUAUCCGAUGUAAUCUUCUUUGGCGGUGUGUUUGUCGACAUCCAAUGAAUUGCGGAUUUGUGAUCAGAUUAUCUAUGAUAUAUAUUUGAGUCUUUGCUGAUUUCUUAUAUGCAUGAUUUGAUAUCCUUGUAAGUCUCUCCGAGUCUUGGGUUUUGUUUGGCCGACUAGAUCUGUGAUUCUUGCAAUGGGAGAAGUGCUUGGUUUUGGGUUCUGCCAUGUGGUGACCUUUCCCUGUGACAGUAGGGACAGCAAGGCACACAUCAAGUAGUUGCCAUCAAGGGUAAAAAGAUGGGGGUUUUAUCAUUGGUUUGAGAUUAUCCCUCUACAUCAUGUCAUCUUGCUUAAGGCGAUACUCUAUUCUUAUGGACUUAAUACACUAGAUGCAUGCUGGAUAGCGGUCAAUGUGUGGAGUAAUAGUAGUAGAUUCAGACAGUAUCGGUCUACUUGUUUUGGACGUGAUGCCUAUAGAAAUAAUCAUUGCAUAGAUAUCGUCACGACUUUGCGCGGUUCUAUCAAUUGCUCGACAGUAAUUUGUUCACCCACCGUCUACUUGCUUUCAUGAGAGAAGCCACUAGUAAACACUACGGCCCCCGGGUCUAUUCACAUCCAUCAUUUACAUCUCCGCUUUUACUUUGCUUUGUUACUUUGUUGCUUUCAGUUAUCACUUGGCAAACAAUCUAUAAGGGAUUGACAACCCCUUCAUACCGUUGGGAGCAAGUUUUUGUGUUUGUGCAGGAUCUUGAGAUACUCCUCCACUGGAUUGAUGCCUUGGUUCUCAAACUGAGGGAAAUACUUACCACCGCUACGCUACAUCACCCUUUCCGCUUCGAGGGAACACCAACGCAAGGCUCAAAGUCUCCCCUUUUACUUUGCUUUGUUACUUUGUUGCUUUCAGUUCUCACCUGGCGAACAAUCUAUAAGGGAUUGACAACCCCUUCAUAGCGUUGGGAGCAAGUUUUUGUGUUUGUGCAGGAUCUUGAGAUAAUCCUCCACCGGAUUGAUACCUUGGUUCUCAAACUAAGGGAAAUACUUACCACCGCUACGCUACAUCACCCUUUCCGCUUCGAGGGAACACAAACGCAAGGCUCCAAGGCCACGGGGGAAAUCCUUUGCAUACUUACCUAGGAAGUCCCUUAAGGCAUAGCCGCAGCAGAAAGAUCAAGCCAAGUAUUCUCCCGUCUACGUGCCUAUUUCUGGCGCCGUUCGAAGGUCUUUUUUUGCAGUAGCAACCAGCUAAAUCAACAUUUCUAGCUCAAGAAUAGGGUCACCAAGGUAGCAAGAAUACGCGAAGGAUAAAACAGUAGAGCAAAAACUAAUUGGAGCAAUGGAGGUGUCACUUACCAAGAAGUAAUUUCCCCAAAACGGUUCGGAUAAUGGUGCUUUGAGCAAGGAGAUCGAAAAUCACAGCCAAAUGAGCAAGAACACGGGUUUGAGCUACGAAACAAUUUUUUCUGGAGGUGAAAGAAGAGGAUGGGAGUUGGAAUGAGUGGAGGGGGUCCCUGUGGGCCGCACAAGCUUGCUAGCCGCCACGAGGGGGGGCGGCAGCUGCAGGGCUUGUGGCCCACUGGUCGGGCCCCCAGGCCAGCUCUCAGGCCCAGUAUUUUUCAAAUAUUCUAGAAAAAAUCAUACUAGAUUUUCAGGACCAUCGGAGAACUUUUAUUUUCGGGGUAUUUUUCUCCAGGACGCUAAAACAGAAAACAGGAAAAUCUAAACUAAAUCUAUCAUUUUUCUUCUAAGCAAUAGAAAAUGAAAGCUCAAAACAGAGUUAUGUGACUCUUUGAUUCAUCCAUUUCAUGGUCAUCGAAAGAAAUCCGUCAAUGGGGUUGAUCAAGUCCUCAUGACAAAACCUUCUCGAAUCGCAAGAGAGAACGGAGAAUUUUCGAAUAACCACUAAGUCACCUCAAUGGGGAUAUGUAUCUCCCCAACAAGCAAAUCAUACUUCAUCUUGACACGAGGAAUAGGGCAUUCAAAGCUCCCAACAAGAAUCGAUGAAGGCUUUUCAAUAGCAUUGAUGCAAUGUACUUGAUAUCGUUUCUUCGGAAAGUGCACUGUGUGCUCAUUACCGUUGACAUGGAAAGUGAAAUUGCCUUUGUUGCAAUCUAUAACAGCCCCUGCAGUGUUUAAAAAGGGUCUUCCGAGGAUGACGGCCAUGGCAUCAUCCUCGGGAAUAUCCAAGAGAACAAAGUCUGUUAAGAUAGUAGUCUUAGCAACCACAACAGGCACAUCCUCGCAAAUGCCGAUAGGGAAAGCAGUUGAUUUGUCGGCCAUUUGCAGAGAAAUUUCAGUGGGUGUCAACUUAUCCAAUUCAAGUCUACGAUAAAGAGAGAGCGGCAUAACACUAACACCGACUCCAAGGUCACAUAAGGCAUUUCUUACGUAGUUUCCUUUAAUAGAACAAGGUAUAGUGGGCACUCCGGGAUCACCAAGUUUCUUAGGAGUUCCACCUUUGAAAGUGUAAUUGGCAAGCAUGGUGGAGAUCUCAAGAUCUGGUAUCUUCCGUUUAUUAGUCACGAUAUCUUUCAUUUACUUGGCAUACAGAGACAUUUUGAGCAUAUCAGUUAACCGCAUCUGCAGAAAGAUGGGUCUUAUCAUCUCAACAAAGCGCUCAAAAUCCUCAUCAUCCUUUUUCUUGGAUGUCUUGGAGGAAAGGGCAUAGAUCUCUGAACCCAUGGAUCCCUUUCUUUACCAUGCUUCCUAGCAGUGAAGUCAUUCUUAUCGUAUCUCUUAGGUUGUGGGUUAUCAGGAUUAACCGUAGGUUCAAUCUCCACAUCCUCAUCAUUGCUAGGUUGUGCAUUAUUAUGAACAUCACUGUCCAUAUUGUCACCAGGUUCAUGUUCAUCACCAGAUUGUGUUUCUGCAUCAGACGCAGAAAUAUCAUUAGAUUCUUCAGGUGUGACAGUAUUUGGUGAACUGGCAUGUAGGUUUCUAUCAUCCUUCUUCUUCUCAUUAGGAUGACUGGGUGUAUCAGCAUUAAUUCCUUGAGAAUCUUGAUCAAUUCUCUUAGGAUGACCUUCAGGAUACAAAGGUUCCUGAGUCAUUUUGCCUCAUGUAGUAAUGACUCUGACAGAGUUGUCUUUUAACUCAUUGAGCAAGUCAUUCUGAUCUUUAAGUACUUGUUCUACCUGAGUAGUAAUCAUAGAUGAAUGUUUACUCAGAAGCUUCAGAUCAUUGACAUUUCUGUCUACACAAGCACUUAAAUGGCUAAGCAUACGAGUACUUUGUUCCAAAUGUCUGCUAACAUAAUCAUUGAAACUCUGUUGUUUGGCAACAAAGUUGUCAAAUUCAUCAAAGCAUAGGCUAGCAGGUUUGUCAAAAGGAAUAUCACUCUCAUCAAACCUACAUAGAGAAUUCACUUCUACUACUUGUAUCGGGUUAUCGAGACCAUGGAUCUCUUAGAUAGGUGGUAGAUUUUUGACAUCUUCAGAUCUAAUGCCUUUCUCUUGCAUAGAUUUAUUGGCUUCUUGCAUAUCUUCGGGACUGAGGAAUAGAAUACCUCUUUUCUUAGGAGUUGGCUUAGGAGGUGGUUCGGGAAUAGUCCAAGCAUUAUCGUUGAUCAAGAUGUUAUUCAGUAGGAUCUCAGCUUGUUCGAUAGUUUGUUCCCUAAAAACACAACCGGCACAACUAUCUAGGUGGUCUCUAGAGGCAUCGGUAAGUCCGUUAUAGAAGAUAUCAAGUAUCUCGUUCUUCUUAAGAGGGUGAUCAGGCAAAACAUUUUGUAGUUGGACGAUCCUCCCCCAAGCUUGUGGGAGACUCUCUUCUUGGAGUUGAGCAAAGUUGUAUAUUUCCUGCAAGGCAGCUUGCUUCUUAUGGGCAGGGAAAUUUUUCUCACAGAAGUAAUAGACCAUAUCCUAGGGACUACUCACACAUCCAGGAGCAAGAGAGGUGAACCAGGCUUUAGUGUCAUCCUUUAAAGAGAAAGGAAACAACUUAAGGAUGUAGUAAUGGCGGAUCUUCUCCUCACUAGUGAAAAGGGUGGCUAUAUCGUGUAGUUUGGUAAGAUGGCCUACGACCGUCUCAGACUCAUAACCGUGGAAAGGAUCAGAUUCGACUAGAGAGAUUAUCUCAGGAUCGACAGAGAAUUCAUAAUCCUUAUCGGUGAUAAAGAUAGGUGAAGUGGCAAACUUCGGGUCGUAUUUCAUCCUAGCUUUCAUUCAUCCUAGCUUUCAGAGAUUUUUCCUUCCACUUGAGAAGUAAUUUCUCAGCGUCAUAGGCAUCCUUACACGCAAGAAAAUCCUCAUCUAUCUCUCCCUCCAUAACAUAACCCUCAGGUAUAUCAGGCAAUUCAUAUCUAGGAGAGCUAGAUCUAGCAGGAGAAAAAGCAGGUUCUAUCUCAAUAGUAUCGGCAUUUUCAGAAGCAUCACGAGCAAUGGCAGUAGCUCUAGCAAUAUGAGCAUCAAGGAACACCCCUAGUGGAACAUCAGGCAAAGUAGCGUCUCUAGCAGUAUCAAGCAUAGCAUCAUGAGGCAUAGCAUCUCUAGCAGUAUCAGGCAUAGCAUCGCUAGCAGUAUGAGGCAUAGCAUCUCUAGCAGUAUCAGGCAUAACAUCUCUAGUAGUAUCACGCAUAGCAGCAUCAUAAGCAUCAUCAAGCACAGGCGACAUAUCAAGAUUUCUAGCAGGAGGUGAUGUCGCAAACUUACUCAUAACUGAAGGUGAAUCAAGUGCAAAGCUAGAUGGCACUUCCUUACCUCCCCUCGUAGUUGAGGGCAAGACUUUGGUUUUCGGAAACUUCAGAUUCUUCAUAGUGAUCAGCAGAUAUAAAUCCCAAGUAACUUAGAGAAUAUAGCAAUCGCAUCCCCGGCAACGGCGCCAGAAAAAUGCUGAUGGCACUCUCUGGCAAUGGCUAGACGAAUGCUAUUCUCGAUUGCUCAACAAUUAGAAAUUGUCUUGCAAUGACCCACCAGCGCGUGGGAUCGAGGUAGUUUUCGAGGGUAGAGUAUUCAACCCAAAUUUGUUGAUUCGCCAAUAGGAAGUUGGAGGAUACUCUCAAGUAUUAGCAGCUGAAUAUGUCAGAUUCAACCACACCUGAAAGAUUAAUAUCUGCAAGCAAAGUAUCAACAACAAAGUAGUAUGAUAGCAAUGAUGUCAGAAACGAUCUGUUGAUGGCACACUAUUCCUAACUAUCGUAUCAAUGGCGCCAGAAGUUGCCCGUUGACGGAAAUUGUCUUUUUCUGUCAACGUCGAGCGAAUCAGAAUUGUAGCAGGUAUCAGCUGUGUAACGAGUAGCAGCAGUGGCAAGGAACAGUAGUAGUGACAGAAAUAGCAAGUAACAGCAGUAGCAAGUAACAGCAGUAGCAAGUAGCAACAGUAUUCAUCAUGCAACAGUUAUAACACGGAGAUAUAUGUGGCUAGCUCCCGUUCGUCAAUGUGAUGUAGGCAUGCAUUCUGUGUGUAGUCAUACGUGCUUAGGGAAAAGAACUUGCACGACAUCUAUUGUCCAUCCCUCCCGUGGUAGCGGGGUCCAAAAGGAAACUACAGGAUAUUAAGGUUCUCCUUUUAAUAAAGAACCGGACCAAAGCAUUAGCACUUGGUGAACACAUGAACUCCUCAAACUAUGGUCAUCACCGGGAGUGGUUCCGGUUAUUGUCACUCCGGGGUUGCCGGGUCAUAACACAUAGUAGGUAACUACAACUUGCAAGAUUGGAUCUAAAACACACAUAUAUUGGUGACAACAUAAUAAUUUCAGAUCUGAAAUCAUGGCACUCAGGCCCUAGUGACAAGCAUUAAGCAUGACAAAGUAGUAGCAACAUCAAUCUCAGAACAUAUUGGAUACUAGGGAUCAAUCCUCGGCAAAACUAACUCGAUUACAUGAUAGAUCUCAUCCUACUCAUCACCGCCCAGCGAGCCUACGAAUAGAUUACUCACGAACAAUGAAGAGCUUCAUGGAAUUGGAGAGGGAAGAAGGUUGAUGAUGACGAUGGUGACGAUUUCCCCUCUCCGGAGCCCAAAACGGACUCCAGAUCUGCCCUCCAGAUGAAGAACAGGAUGUGGCGGCGCCUCCGUAUCGCAAACGCGACGAAAUCUUCUCUCUUGAUUUUUUCUGGGACGAAAGUGAAUUUAUAGAGCUAAGUUUGGGGGCGGCAGAGCCACGUGGGCCCCACAAGCUUGCUAGCCGCCACCUGGNCUACCCGCCACCAGGGGGGUGGCAGCUAUAGGGCUUGUGGCCCACUGGCCCAUCCCCUCUGGUGGAUCUUUGCGCGGGUAUUUUUCAUAUUUUCUAGAAAUAUUCUUCGUAAAUUUUCAGGACGUUCUGAGAACUUUCAUUUCUGCACAAAAACAACACAAAGGCAAUUCUGCUGAAAACAGCGCGAGUCCAGGUUAGUUCCAUUCAAAUCAUGCAAAUUAGAUUCCAAAACAAGGGCAAAAGAGUUUGGAAAAGUAGAUACGAUGGAGACGUAUCAAUGACGACAAGUACUAUCAAGCAAUGGAGAAUAAAUGCUAAUGAUAUAGAGAUGUGAAACCUCUAUGAAUGAAGAACCGAAAAAACUCCAUCCUCAAAAACGACAUAGAAUAUGCAUAUGAACUCCGUUUUCGAUGAACUUGAACUUGUCAUGAAUAUGACCAUAAGCUCAAGAACGCGCAUAGGGAAAAACCAUCCAAGAACCAAGAAAGAUUAUCUUUCCAAUAAUGCAUUGGUUUGAGCUCUCAACAGACGAUAUGAUCAAGCUACUCACUUGAGAGCCCCCCUUGGUAGUACGACAAUCUAUCCUAUAACCCGGUCUCCCAACUAACGCGCUGAGACCGGUAAAAUAGAAAACCUAUUAAGGACAAAUAUUUGCCUUGCGCAUAGUCCACUUGAGCUAAAUGAUGAUGAUGUUGUACUCCUCAAGAUUGACCACCUUCCUUCAUUGUGUUGGCUUGAUGAAGACUAGUUGAUUGCGCCCCAUACUUCACUAUAGGAAAGCAACUCUUCGGCACAUCUUCACCAUAGUGGACGACAAGAUUCAAGCAUGAUCUCGUCUGAUGCUCCACUUGAACUUGCACGCUGCAAUCUUCCAUGGGUUGAAUGAGACUUCCUGUUGACGCGGUCCCAUGGAAACACACCUACCCCACAUAGAACUUUCACAAAGACCAUGGGUUAGUACACAAAGCGUAAUGGACAAUGCUUACCGUACCAUGGGCUCACUUGAUCCCUCUCGGUACAUCUUGUACGCUUUGUGUGUUGAUCAACUUGAUUUACUCUUUGACUUAGUCUUGACCAACGUUGUGUAUUUAUGACCAAUCUUUGGAUAAAACCUUGAAUACCAUAUUGGUCAUCAUAUAAACUCUUUGAAACCAUUAGAUGGACUUCAAGAAGUGCCUAUGAACAAAUCCUUCGAAUAUAACUCAAGGCAAGCAUAUGCUCUAACAAUUCCCUACCAGGCACAUCAUUCAAAAGGAUGGAAGGUGUUCCAUAGGAUAGUAUCUUAUUGAUCCAAGUGAUGGAUCCAAUUUUUACGCACUUUUUAUAGCUCAUUUGUCGCCUAUUAUCUCCAUAUAGCAUGUUCUAUUGAGCAAAUGACAUGUACAUAUGCAUAAUUUCAAUUAUUUAUCAUGUCCAACACAAGGAUUGCAUAAUCGUUAUUCUUUGUUAGUGCUUAUAUGUGUCUUAUUUGUUUUUGUGUGUUUUGUAAGCAAUGUGGAACUCCCAUCCACUUAACACAAUGAAAAGGAUCCAAACGGAGGACAUCUAGGCACCAGACUUAGGCAGUCGGUUUUCAGAUGCUAAAAAUCAAUAUCUGCAUUGUAGGUUCAUGAGCGUUCUUCUCGUGAUUCCAACGAGUAGAGGAACGUUGAAAACAGAGUAUGGAUGUCAAAUUUACAAUUUUACCGAAGAGUCCAAACCAUUUAGUGACCUUUGGGAGGGAAAAAAUACUCGUCCCAGGCCCACACAAGCUCAAAAGUUGCAGGAUUUCAUUAUCGUUUGUUCCUACUACUUUCUUGUCCAUCAAGGGAUGUUUUGGGAAAGGAUUUGGUUCACCGAGAGCACUUAUAUCAAAGUAGAUGCUACAUCAAUGAAAGAGGGUUUGGGAGAGCUCUUAUAAAUAUAUCUCCAACCCUAACCACUCGGGGACACCAUCCAUAUCCACCUAUCCAUGCUCAGCUGUCAUCCCCAUCAAGAGGAACUUGGGGGUUGUGCCAAGCCUACAUCUCCAUUGUUGCAACCUUGGAGGAAGACUAGGAGGGAGUCAUGCUGGAAAAGCGUCAUGGGGGCUGCGGUCAUGGGCCAUAGCUGUCACAUCGUCCUCACCUAGCUACACCCCUUCUCAUUCCCCCAUCACGGUCUCCGUGAUGAAUUGUAACAACUCUUGAACCCCUUUAUAUGUGAUGUUAUUUGAGUAAUUCUUGGCUAUGGGUUGAUCAGCUAGUAAGCAUUUAUUUGAUAUGCGUCGUCUAUUUAUGCCUAUCAUCUUCAUGUUAUUAUUUACCCUUGCGGUAAUUUAGUGAUUGCAGCUGUACCGUCCAUUAGUGUAGUUGGAGACGUUCAACUCCCUAGGUCACACAUGAAGUUGAUAGAUACUUGUCCAUAUCGAGAGACCUCCGGGGUGACAGGCAUCGAUAUCUUGAGGGGAAUAAAAUUAUCCGAAGGAUCACGGUUGUUCAUAGAACUUAUUGCAUUCGGUUCAUGCCUUAUGAUAUUAAUGUCUUUCUUUUGCCCACUCACAGUAUGGGACAGGAAAUAGGAAGAGAGAGUUGUCUGAGUAUGACGAUGUUUGAGAGACAAUGUUAUGUGAGGGACCGCCCACCAUUGAUCAAUUGCGAUAUCGUAUAAUGCAAGGUAUAGACUUAAUUGUAGGUUUUAAUAGUUGAGAUAUAGAGCUUUUUGUCCUACCCACUAAUGUUUAAAACAAGGUAUGGUGUAGCUCAGCUCCAUUGUCACAAAGAGUGGUAAAAAAGUUGAGAUAUAGAGCUUUUCUUUUCGUUCCUACGCACAUAGUUGAAAAAAUCACAUCAAGGCCAAUGGACCAAAGAACAGCCAUUCCCUUCGCCAAAGCGAGGCGCAGAUGCGCUGUUGUCUUCUCUCCCACACAGGAGCUAGCCUCAUCAUGUCCAUGACAACUAGGAAGUCUUACUUGCACGUGCCCCUAAGUACCUGUGUUCUGGAACCACGGUUAUCCCCGAAUCGGUUUGAAGAACCUGACACGAAAUCUCGAUGUGCGUACGCACCCGAGAGGCUCCAUCUAAUCCUUCCUCGUGGACGAACUUCAAGAGGAUCGGAUCCCGAAAGACUAACUCGAAGAAGAAGCAUAACCAUCCAUCCCAGCACCAUCCGUAUGAGAGCUAAAACCCUACCUAUGUACUAGACGGAGCUGAGGCACCAGGAGUCCCCUUCCCGCCGAGGGGAGUCAUAUACAUAGGUUGGUCGACGGAUGUCAAGGGGAUGAAAGCUUUACCUAGUCGCCUUGCGAGAGGGGAAAGAACUUGUUCUACGUGUGGUCGGUUACUAUGCUAGUUGAGUUAAUUAUACCAAGAAAACACAUAUUUCAUUUUGAGAAACAUGCAUGUACACCACCCCUUUCAAUGCGCACACACACACUCUAUGCCUAUGAACAUUUACGAGAGAGUGAGCCAACAGACCUUAUGAUAAAAUAAAAAUACUUUACCCGCACCACUCAAAUGGCGUACUCAGACAAUUUGUAAUCAAAAAAUCUUGGGCUUAAAAUGAAACCAAAAACAAGGAAAGGUGGAAAAAGGUUGUGUGGCAACCACCCUAUAACAUCAAGAACUGAAACUUCCAUCAGACACAAUGCAUCUGAGGGCCACGCAACCUUUGAAAUGGAUAUGGCAGUGGCUGCAACAAGGCCAUUCCCAGGUACAACAAAUAAAGUCUGAGUUCAUCAAAACAAUGCCUUCAACAAGGCCAUUGCCACGUACAAAUAAUAUAGGCCAGACCAUUAGCUUUCACCAUGGAAAUCAAAACUCAUUACUCGAGGAGCAGCAUCAAAUUGCAGUCCUUCAGUGUUGCCGCCCCCGCUUGCCGAGACCGCUGUUGCAAGUCACCAAACACCUGGCACAUAGUCUUCAUCGUAUCCAAUACACCCUUCCAAUAAAGCUUAAGACCUCCAAUCACAGCGUCCAAGACUUCCUCCACCUCUAUUCAUGCCUUAGAAAUCAUAAAUUCGACAUGUCCAUGACACCCGUAAGAAAUCGAACAUUCGCGCCAUGCCCUCUCGAGCUGGGUUGGAUGAUAAUAUUAGCGCGCGCAACCGGAGCCUUUCCAGUCUAGAUAUCCAGGUUCGACAUACGUCAAUCUGUAUAGAUCUCUGAGGGGGAAGACCAGAAUGCGUCAGCAACCCGAUCCAAGAGGUCGACAUUAGGUAGAAAGACAACUUGGCGGAACAAAAGCGCUAUGGCCAAAGCACCAUUUUUAGGCCGAACCACACUCACCCACCUCCAAAGAAAACGAGCCACUCCGCACUAUGCCAAAUGCUCCAGCCACCAUACCGAGCACCACUCCGAGAAACACACCCCUGAACAACCUCCAUUUUACGGACUCAUGGCGCCAGGUCCCGAAUCCGGCUGCUCCCCGGGAGGAACGAGUCACUAGACGGCGUAGCAGCAAGCACCGGCUAUGCAUGCACUCCGGCCUGGUCGGUCCAGAGUGAUCACGAUGUUCAUCCACAUGAUUGCUAUAUCAUUGAGAGGUCAUGGUUGAUCGCAUCAUUUUGCAGGGUGCUUCAUCAUCAUGAAAUGAAUGAAUAUACGCUUCCUUUUUUGUGGGUUAGAUUCCACGAUGAUACAAAAUCUGGACUCACGAUACAUAAUUUAUGGGUUCAGUGGGGACGACAUGAACAGAGCAAAUGGACAACAGUGGGUUCUAAAAUUUUAGCUCAUGGAUGAAAACAAAGUUUUACCUUGCUUGGACACCCAAUUAAGUAGCAUUUCUACUCGCAAAAAAAAUAGCAUUUCCAAUUAAAAAAAAUCCUCCAUGACAUGUAAAUGAUUAGGCGUAGAAAAUAGUACUCCCUCCGUCACGGUUUAGAAGGCACAGUUAGACUUGCGUGCGUUUUCAAAAUAGACAAAGAUUAAGGCACAUUGCAUUUACUCCUAGCAGUUAAUUAGUAUUCCGUUGUACUAUUUCUAUAUGCAUGUGUAGUGUGAAUGCUAUUUUUUAACUCAUUGUAUAGCCAAUCAAUAACCACCUAGGUCCUAGAGAAUUUGCAUGCACGCCUUCUAAACCGUGACGGAGGGAGUACAACACUUUUGUAGUCCAAUGAAUAAUUGUGAAUAAAACAUAUAAAAGGUCAUGAUGACACACAUCACACAUGCAGCAAAUAUAUGUUAAUUAACUGCAUAAAAUGUUAUAAAAUGAAGCACCAAAUUUUACAAGCAAGCAUAAUUGGUUGACAAGUUUGUCUUAUAAGUAAAUAAAAGUGGAUAAAGGAUGUACGAUUAACAUUCGUCCUGCCUGUGCCACUGAACCUAAAUCGCCAAUCAACAAAGGAACUUCUUCGUGCACCUUUGAAGCGUUACCCGUCGGAAUAUGAAGCGAAAAGAAUAAUAGAGUACAUGCAAGGCUGGAAAAAGGAUUUGUGGCAAUCACACAUUGACAUGGACGACUGAAAUUUUCGGCACACACAACGCAUCCAACGGCCAUGCCUCUUACACUAAUCCGGAGAGAUAAGGAAACCAGGCAACCAACAAACGCCAGCCACCCCUUCCACAUCUUGAUUAAAGAUAGGAGCUCACAUGGCUAUAUAUACCGUGCUGAACAGGCAAUGGGGGCCUCAAGUGUAGCCGGCAUCCUCCUCUCUACAGUUAAUACAGUACCAUGGCCCCCGCCGUGAUGGCUUCGUCGGCUACCACCGUCGCACCCUUCCAGGGGCUCAAGUCCACAGCCGGUCUCCCCGUCAGCCGCCGCUCCAGCGCCAGCCUCGGCAGCGUCAGCAAUGGCGGAAGGAUCAGGUGCAUGCAGGUAUGUCGGGGCACAAAACUGAUAUGAGUUUCUUCCACAUUACAAUUACUGCACUUAGCAGUUACUAGCACUAAGUGUUAAGCGUUCCAUAAUUUCCAAUCAUUCAGGUGUGGCCGAUUGAGGGUAUCAAGAAGUUCGAGACCCUGUCUUACUUGCCACCCCUCACCACGGAGGCCCUCCUGAAGCAGGUUGACUACCUGAUCCGCUCCAAGUGGGUGCCCUGCCUCGAGUUCAGCAAGGUUGGCUUCGUCUUCCGUGAGCACAACAGCUCCCCCGGGUACUACGACGGCCGAUACUGGACAAUGUGGAAGCUGCCUAUGUUCGGAUGCACCGACGCCACACAGGUGCUUAACGAGGUGGAGGAGGUCAAGAAGGAGUACCCUGACGCUUAUGUCCGUAUCAUCGGCUUCGACAACCUGCGGCAGGUGCAGUGCGUCAGCUUCAUCGCCUUCAGGCCACCGGGUUGCGAGGAGUCCGGCAAGGCAUAAACUACGAGGUGAAACAAUGGCCUAUGUCGUAUGAAGGUCUUUUGUGAAUUUCACUUUUGUCCACGACUCUGCUUUCCGACCAGAGCAUAACUUUCUUCUUUAUGAUCUGUGUAUGUACGAGCAUAGGUUGUGGAGCAUAUAUGCAUAUGUAAAUUCUAGCACCCCCUACACAUAUCCAACACCUGUGUCAUAUUUAUAAUAUACAACAAGCGGACCAUUGUCUUGCUGUUAAUUAUCGGAAAAGUUUAUUUUAUUUAGCACUGCAAUGGAUGUCUCACAACUAGUGGGUGGAAGAUUCCAGUAUUUGACAUUAAGACCCACUGAUUGGCAACUGCAAUUUUCAGUUUCUUUAUUUAUAUCAAUCUAUACUUAUACUAAUUAGGGACUCUCAAUAAAUUCCCACGUUAAUUAAAAAAUUAGGACCGUUCAUCUAAUGGGACCGAGUUAUAACGGUCUAGAUUAGCCCGAUACACGUUAAUUAGAAAAUUAGGAUCGUUCAUCUAAUGGGACCGAGUUAUAACGGUCUAGAUUAGCUCAAGUAAUUUCCGGAUUAAUCAUAAAUACUCCCAGCCCACGUGACCUAACCCUGACUUCUCCCCACGUACAUCUUUCUCCAAUCUUCGUUUCCUAUAUGCGACCGUGAUAGCAGAUGCCAUGCAUCAUAUCCAGUGUCAUAUCUAUGGUUUAGAUCAAAUAAUCAAUCGUGGCAGUCUAAGCCCUAAAGCAAUCCCAUCUGCAGUCUUACCCCAACAAUGAUCUAAAGCAGUCCAUCAAGUCUGUUCCCAAUCUUCUUUCCUCGAUGACUGUUGAAUCUCAGCAACCCCAAGUCCAAAGCUAUGACGCAAAUCGUGGUGGCUGAGGAGGAGGUUGACCUUCAAUCCACUCAGCUUCUAGACCUUGACCAAACAUCAAUGCAUGUUCGAAGCUACAACGGCGAAGGAGGUUCAUCGAGGGCAGUUUGGAUCAGAUCGUAUAUUGUCACCAUUGUUUGUAAAGCUUCAGCGUGAAGGAACUAUGGCAGGCUGAUGGUGCCGUGGUUUAGCUUCUUUAUACUGCUGGAGUUCGUCCCCUAUGCAGGCAAGUAAUCCAUUAUCUUGAAUUUAGGAUUUAUUCUACAACCGUCUCAAUUAAUCAUAAAUUCCCAAUAAAUUAUAUUAAUCGUAUGACUAAAAAAGGUACUGUAUAUGCCCAUCUAUCACCUAACAGUAUUGUUCAGUAGUUGAUCAUGCACUCUACGGAACGAGGAGAAUCACUCUACGGCCGGUGGUCUGCAAUUCUGCAUCUCCUACAGUAGAAGAUGGUUGAUGGAGGUUGUGUCAGUACGUACGACUGUUUGAAGUUAAUUGGGUAGGUGCAGUCAUUGGUGUGCUGCUAAGUAGAAGAACUGUGCCCUGCAAAAAAAAGGUAGAACCGUGACAGCGUAGCACGAAGCUAUUCAUCUCCUUGACACAAUUCAGUUUCGUUGAAGAUCACACCUACGGACUACUCCCAUCAAUGGGAAAUUAGCUAUGUAUCCUUAAAUUCUUCGCUUAAGAUAAUAUUUCUUCAUAUAAUUUGCAUGUAGUAUCCUAUUCAAGCUGUUGAUAUGUCCACAAUUUUAACCGUGAGUUCUUCAAUUGAUGUUAUAUGUUUAAUAGGAAUAGGUCGUGUAGCUAAUGUUUAAUAUACGUUAAUUCAUGGUCUGAUCCACUUUCCAAUGUCUCAUCUAAUGCUUUUACAUGACAUCUGAUAUAGGGUAAUACACCAAUAUUUUCUCUUACUUCCAGCUGAUGCUUAACUAUGUUAUCCAGUUUCCAAUCUGUAGAUAGAUCGCUAAAUGAGUUCUACUAGGAACCUAUUAGGAUAUUAUAUUAUUUUUAGUUAUUCUCAUACGGGAUAUGCACAGCUUUUACUCAGUUCUAAUUAAACCAGAAGCACCUACUAAAUGAUCUAAACGUAUAUUUGUUCGUGCACAAUGCCCAAUUACUUCUUUUCAGAUAAAAAUACCAAGUUACUUUCGUAUGUUGCGUCAUGCUUCCCAUAAUUAUUGAUACUUCGAAACAACCUAUGCACAAGGCAAUAUAUUUUCCCGUGUAGUAGUCCAACCCAAUUUCAUUCCAACAUGAGAAAACUUGUGGAUACACCAUCUCUGCCCCUCACACGGCCUGAUGGCUGAUUGUGUCCUCAUCUAUGUCCUCCUCUUCCNNNNNNNNNNNNNNNNNNNNNUUCCUCCCCCUCUCCCCUCACUCCCACCUGCCGUAGCAUCACUGUGACAUCUGUAUGCCUCCAAUUUGUCGCAUUUCUGGAGCACGAGAAAACUACAAGAGGCUAACAAGGCUACAUACGACAUAACUAUGGUAGGCUGUUGGCACUGCUGUUCACCUUCUUAAUAUCCUUGGAUGUUGGACUCUACGCCGGCCUCUCCCAUCUUGAGUGUUGGUGGCUGCAUGAUCUGAGCAUCGGCUUGGAUGGCGUCCAAUAAAGACACCAUGCAUUACUGGCAGUGUAGACUCUGACACACACAAGUAUAUGAUCUAAGCUUUUCGUUGGCCCAAAACGCACACAUACUGCAGCCAAGAUUAAUCGACAUCAAUGCCCAAUUACUUCCUUUCAUACAACAAAACAUAUCAACGCCAACAUGUGUGGGAUGAGAAGGCGCUGGGCUGCAUGCCAGUGUGGGCCUAUGCCAGGGGGACAAGACGACACUCUCAGCCUCGGAGAUGCUCCCGAUGCACUGCAAGCACCAUUGCAAAUUCGGAAUACGGUCUUUCUAUUCCCAUCUUCAUUUCCUUGUGUAUAAAUUGCUAACUGCAUGUACAUGACAGAUAGCAACAACAAAUUCUAAAACAAUCCCUCUCAUAUAGGCUAUACCACAUGGGAAAGAUCAUGAAUGUUGCGGUUCAAUUAUAAUCUAUUUGCAAUACCUAGAUUUUGUUUUUAGAUGUUUUGAGAGUAGUGUUCGUAAUUACAGAUGAAAACGUAAUCCUAUUGUUGUUGUGGCCUCUUGAUUUCUCCAUCAUAACAAGAAGAGGAAGUGUACACAUGUUGAAGUCACGUUUAGGCAUCAAUGUGAGUGGUAUGUAAGCAAACAUUGUCUAAUGGCCGACUAUAUGUUUCUUGAAUAAAAAUAAUUAUACAAUAUGAUUACAUAACGCUGCAAGCAGAUCCUAGAAAAAUAUAAAUGAAAUUGCACAAUAAAUUUUUUUGUGACCAUGAUUAUAUGAAUAUUAGUUUAGUCAUAGUAUAUCAUCAACAUAUUUAUUUUUAUGUUAUAUUUUGUAAUGCUGAUAUGUUCACAAAAAUAGUAAUAUUAGUAGUAGAAACUAAUAUUUUUGUACCAUUAUUAGUAGUAUAAUUUAUCACAAAAAUGUGAACCAAUGAUUGUAAAGCUUUUCCCACAACAUAAGCUAUUACUUGAAUGUGAUAAGGUGAGAUAGUAUUAUGACCAAAUGUUACGAGUGCAAGUUAAUUAUUAUAUCACAGAAAUAACUGAAUCAUUUCAUUUCAUUGUCUAACAAAUAAGUAUGCCCUCAAUUUGAAUUUAUUCGCAUAUGAGUAUUAUCUCGAGUUAGACUUCUACGAUACCGAAACAAUACCAUUAGACUCAUUAUUGAAUAUAUUUACACAUCUUAUAAGUUUUGAAAAAUGAACUUAUUAGGAAGUAUAAAAACCAGUCGGCCCACACAACCCACCAGAUGAAUUUAAAUUGACCUGCGAUAAAAUUAAUUACCACUCACCCUAUUAGGGUAGCCCGUGCGAAUGCACGGGUUCACGACUAGUUUAUCUAAUGUAGGUUAGAGCAACACCAACCAGGCCCCCCAAACGGACGCUCGUUUUGUCCGUGUUUUGUCCAUUUUGGUCGGCUUGUUCGUCCUGUUUUCGUUUUGGGUCCGUCGUGCGUCCAAUGCGCCCAUGCUUCUUUCGCGCUAUGCUUCUUUCGUUAGUGUGGUAGGCUUGCAGCCAUUUUUUGAUCUCUUUGUUACAUAUGUUUAAAAUUUAAUCCUAGAUUAACGAAGUUGAGUAAAAAUACAACCAUUUCAUAGUUCACAAACCACAUAAAUAUCUGAUAGUUUACAAGCCAAAUUUACAUUAAAUUGUCUCCAACACAUUUGAAAGAAAAGGUUGCCAACACAUCUAUUGGUUGCCAAUAUGAAUGCACAUAUGCUCGCAGCUGCAUGUGAGUUUCAAUCACGUAUCUGAUGAUGAAAUUGGACGAACUAUGCAAACGUGAUCACUCCUCCAUGCACAGGCACAACAUUGUCACCCUGUUGAAUCCUAGGUUUUCAUUGGAAUUGCCUACCAGGCACACCAUUCAAAAGGAUGGAAGGUGUUGCAUUGGAUAAGAUCUUGAUCCAAGUGAUGGCUCCAAUUUGUACACAAUUUUAGAGCUCAUUUGUCGCCUAAUAGCUCCAUAUAGCAUGUUCUAUUCAGCCAAUUACAUGUCCAUAUGCAUGAUAUCCAUUAUUUGUCCUUUCUGUCACAAGGAUUGCGUAAUCAUAAUUCUUUUUUAGUGCUUACUGUGUUUCUUUGUUUUUGAGUGUUUUGUAGGUAACGUGGAACUCCCAUACACUUAACCCAAUGAAAAGGAUCCAAAGGUAAGGACAUACAGGUACCAGAUUUAGGCAGUCGGUUUUUUAGUUGCUCAAAAUCGAUAUCUGAUAUUGUACGUGCAUCAGCAUUGUUUUCAUGAUUCCAACGAGCAGAAGAACAUUGAAAACAGAGUCUGGAUGUAAAAGUUACAAUUUUACCAAAGAGUCCAAAGCGUUUAACGACCUUUGGCAUGACCCAAAAUGCUCGUAUCAGGCCGUGACAAGCUCGAAAGUGGCCCUUUCCAAAGGAAUUCUUCGAGGCUUUCUUGUUCAGUGCCACAAGAAAGUGGUACUAUCAUUAUUAACUUUGUAUUUGUUGGCGUCAAUGUUAUGGACAUCAAUAUCACUACUAUCUAGAUUCAAAAAGAAUAAACCAUUCACAGUAGGCUCAUGACCAUAAAAGAUGUUACCCAUAUAAAUGGAACAACCAUUAUUCUCUAGUUUAAGUGAAUAACUGUCUCGCAAUAAACAAAAUCUAGAUAUAAUGUUCAUGCUCAAGCGGGCACCAAAUAACAAUUAUUUAGGUUUACAACUAAUCCUGAUGGUAAUCGAAGAGCGAUUGUGUCGACCGCGAUCACAUCAACCUUUGAACCAUUUCUGACGUGCAUCGUCACUUCGUCCUUUGCCAACCUUCGUUUAUUCCGUAGUUCCUGUUCAAGUUACAAAUAUGAGUAACCAAACCGUUAUCAAAUGGCAUUACUACGAGAGCUAGUAUGGUACACAUAAAUAACAUGUACAUCAAGUAUAUCUUUAUUGAUGUUGCCAGGCUUCUUAUUGGCCAGAUACUUGGGUCAAUUCCGCUUAUAGUGACCAGUUCCAUUGCAAUAGAAGCACUCAGUCUCAAGCUUGGACACAACUUUGGGUUUCUUGAGGGGGGGAACUGGCUUGUCGUUAUUCCUGAAGUUUCCCUUCCUGCCCUUGCCUUUCUUCAAACUAGUGGUUUUAUUCACCAUCAACACUUGAUGCUCCUUCUUGAGUUCUACUUCCGCGAUUUUCAGCAUCGCGAGAUUAGCUUCUUCAUCCCUUGCAUAUUAUAGUUCAUCGUGAAGUCUUUGUAGCUAGGUGGCAGUGACUAGAGAACUAUGUCAGGACCGUCUCAGGUGGAAUCUCAACUCCCAACUGAUUCAGGCGGUUGUACCACACACACAUUCUGAGUAUGUGCUCACUGACAGAACUAUUAUCUUUCAUCUUGCAGGUGAAGAAAUUAUUAGAGGUCUCAUACCUCUUGAUCCGGCCAUUUGCUCGAAAUACUAACUUCAACUCCUGGAACAUUUGAUAUGCUCCAUGGCGUUCAAAACGGUUUUGAUGUCCCAAUUCUAAGCUGUACAACAUGGUACACUGAACUAUCGAGUAGUCAUCAGCACGCGCCUGUGAGACGUUCAAAAAAUCUGCAUACGACACUAGAGGGGUGGCGUCUCAAGCGCUGCAUCAAGGACAUAAGCCUUUUGCGAAGCCGUGAGGAUAAUCCUCAGAUUAAAGACCCAGUCUGCAUAGUUAUUUCCAUCAUCUUUCAGCUUAUCUUUCUCUAGGUACACAUUCAAAUUCAGGGGAGCUACUGUGUGAGCCAUUGAUCUACAACGUAAUUUGCAAAGACAUCUAUAGACUAUGUGUCAUGACAAUGAAUUCAAUUAAUCAUAUUACUAAAGAACUCCCACUCAAAUCAACAUCCCUCAGUUGUCUAAGUGUGACAUGAUCCAAAUACACCAACCCAAGUCCGAUCAUCAUGUGAGAUGAGGUGAUUUCAAUGGUGAACAUAUCCAUUUGAUGAUAUGUACUACAUGACUCAUGUUCGACCUUUAGGUCUCCUCUAUUCCGAGGCCAUGUUUGUACAUGCUAGGCUCAUAAAGUUUAACCCAAGUGUUUUCCAUGUGCAAAACUGGCUUACAACACUUGUAUGUGAACGAAGAGUGUAUCACACCUGAUCAUCACGAGGUGCUUCGAAACAACAAACUUUCACAACGGUGAGGGAUCAACUUAUAAUGCUAUCAUUGUCCUAAGGAUAAUAAGAUGCAUAAAAUAUAAACAUCACAUGCAAAUCAUAUAAGUGACAUGAUAUGGCCAUCAUCAUCUUGUGAUUCUGAUCUCCAUAUCCAAAGCACCGGCAUGAUCUCCAUCGUCACCGGCAUGACACCAUGAUCUCCAUCAUCGUGUCGUCAUGUGGUUGUCGUGCUAACUAUUGCUAACUCAUAGUGAUAAAGUAGAGCAAAUGACACAAAUAAAUAAAAGACAACCCUAUGGCUCCUACCGGUUGUCGUACUCAUGGAGAUGGAAGUUGUGAUAACUAUACAAAACAUGAUCAUCUCAUACAUCACAUAUAUCAAAUCAUGUUUUUGGCCAUAUCACAUCACAACAUGCCCUCGACAAACAAGUUACACGUCCUCUACUUUGUUAUUGCAAGUUUUACACGGCUGCUAUGGGAAACUAGCAAAAAUCAUUCUUACAUACGCAAAGCCACAACGGUGAUAUUCAAGUUGCUAUCUAACCUUCUACAAGGACUGCCUGUGUCGAAUCCGAUUCAACUAAUUAAAUUGAGAGAGACAAACACCCGCGAACCACCUUUAUGCAAGCAAGUUACGUGUUAGUUGGUCAAACUAGUCUCUUAUGCGUGGACAGGUACGGUUGGUCCGAACCGCUCCAUCCCAGAAUAUCGCUGAAUCAAAAUAAUACUAAGGAGCUAAGCAAGAUGAACAUCAACACCCACAAACACUUUGUGUUCUACUUGUGCAUGCCAUCUAUACAGAAACCUAGCUCAUGAUGCCAGUGUUGGAGAAUGUUGCAUGGGAAACAAUAGUUUUCCUAUGUACACCCAAGAUCUAUCUAUGGAGAUGUAUAGCUACGAGACGGGGAGUGGAUCUACACACCCUUGCAGAUCACUAAGAGGAAACAUUAAGAAACGCGGUUGAUGUAGUUGUAUGUCUUCACGAUCCAAUCAUGAUUCGUCCUGAUCUAGCGCCGGUCAGACGGCACUUCCGUGUUCAGCACACGUACAGCUCGAUGACGUCUUAGCCCCCCAGAGAGCGAUGGUGGAGUAGUAGAUGAGUUCUCCAGUAGAACGGCGGCGUGGUGACGCACUAGUGGAGAAAGGGGUAUUAGAACCGGUUGGUAAGGGCCUUUGGACCCAGAUACACAUCCGGUGCUACGUAUCCGGGACUAAAGCCCCCCCCCCUUUAGCACCGGUCUCUUACAAACCGGUGCUAAAGGCCUCCACGUGGGCGCCGAAGAGUGCGCGCAGGCGGAGGACCUUUAGAACCGGUUGGUAACACCAACCGGUCCUAAUGCUUUUUUUUCUUUUUUUUCCUNUCCAGUUCCGUAUUUCCGUUUACGUCUUUCCGAUUCCGUGUUUCCGAUUCCGUAUUUUGGUGUUUCCGUGUUCCGUAUUUUCAGGGUUUUCGUUUUCGUGUUUCCAGUUCCGUAUUUCCGUUUACGUCUUUCCGAUUCCGUGUUUCCGAUUCCGUGUGUCCGUGUUUCGUUUUUUACGAACACGGAAUCGGAAACACGUAAUCGGAAACACCGAUUCCGUGUUUGCGGUUAAGUGUUUCCGAUUCCGUGUUUGCGGUUAAAUGUUGAUGCACCAAAUAAAAGUACAUAUAUACAUGUAACACGAAGUACUGGACCGAUUAUCAUUACAUAAUUUGAAGUUCGUUUCCUAUGGCUGUAUACUUGCAUAGAGAAGGGAACUGGCUAUUGGUUCGUAGGAUGGAAAAUUUCUCCGCCUUCAUCUAUGACUUGCGUGAGGAGAAAUCCUGCCAAUUCCUCUACAACUGCCUUGCAACGUUGGAUUGGUCUGAGCAUCGCCCGCUUUCGUUGCAGCUUUAAAAGAAGUAGAUGAAAACAAUUAAGUUAUGAACAAAACUAAACAUAAUUGAUGGCAACAUAAAUAAAGUUGUGAAGAUCCGGUUACGUACCUCUAGAUUUCUGGAAGUACGGGAUUUCUCAUUGAUAAUCCUGUGAAUGUACUCGCAAACGUAGUAUCCACAAUAAUCAGUGCCCUGUGGUUGUUGCGGGACGCCCUAUAUACGAGAACAUAAUUCAGUCAAAUUAAUAAUAAUCAAGAGAAUGGUAAUGGUAUUGAAACCAGGGUACGUAGUACUACUUACUUUGUUAAUCUGAAAGUGGAGCUUGUCUGCCCAUGUACCGGGUUCUUCCUUGAUGAACAUUUGCCAAACCCUGGCCGACAAAGAAAAAUGAAUACAAGAGUUAAUUAUUACUUACUUGAUAUCAGGAAAUGAACGAAAAAGAGGCCGAUGAACGAAAGAGGCCGAUAUAUAUAUACCUUUGAAGCAUCUGACGCGCGCUCUUCCAUGUGUCAGCGUCCCAGGUUAACGGGUCCCAGACUUCAACUUGUCCUUGAUCGAUUCUAAUGAUGAACAAUAUGAAGUGGGACCUGCGCACGUGUACACACGAAGUCAUGCAUACUCAUCAAUUACACUUAACAUCAGGUAAGCAAAAUGGAAUGUGUACAAGACAGUAGCACUCACUUGAAUCCGUAGGGCCAAAUAUUUCUUUUUUGGUACUUUGUCGCUUCAAAAACCUUAGCAAAUCAUCCGGUGUAUCCUUGUUGAACUUUUCUAUUGUCUCUUGAUGAAACGAAUACGGGUCAAUGAACCCAAAGUCCCAGAUUCCUGCCAGCCUGCAUUCACGAAUCUUCAUUCUGCAUAGUAGCAUACAAAAAGAAUAUCUCGUGAGUGAUAAUUAUACGGGCAAUGAACGCGAGCUUAACUAAAUAAUUAAAUUACACAAAUAAAUAACUUACAAACAGUAGCAGCUGACGAUAGCUUUGUCGAGGGCACGUUGGUUGUAUAUCUGGAAAAAAUCAUCGAACCCAACCUCCACACCGUACUCUCCGAAGCAGUGUUGAUCCUGAACUGCCGCCAUGAUACAGUCUCUCUUUUGCCUUGCGGCCUCCAAGUACCAAACAUGUAAAUUCCAUAGUUGGGUUGUUAGAGCACUAGGAUUUUCGACCAGAGGGUGCUCGGGCUUAUAUUUAUAUACCACAUCAACAAUAGCGUAACCUACGUCGCCCAUGCGUGGACCGGACACUGAAGCCUGGUCAGAUAACACCUUGAGCGGGGCAAUUGACUGUGCUUCUUGUUGUUCGAGCUGGGGAACUUGUUUCCCGCAUUUCGUCUGCUCCGCCUGCUUCAUCUGUGCGGUGUGCAUCUUUUCAAUGUACCGUUCAUAGUCUGAAAGGGGCGGCGGUGGCGGCGGUUCAGGAUAAUAUAAGUUGUCGAUGGUGCGCUCAAUUUUCCACUUUGGUACGUUCUUCAGAGUUUCCUUCCAGAUGUCUGGAGGGGGCUUCAAGGGAAACCGUGCGAACCAUGCUUUGUUUUUGGCUUUCACGGCCUCGUCUAGUUCCUCCGGAGUCAUCAGGCCUGGUAACUUUGGGGGAGUCUUGACUUUAUUGGGUUUCCUUUCUCUCUUCUUGGGAGGAGUCCCGUUUCUUCUGAACUGCAGCUUCCGCUUUGCCGUACCCGUAGUGGGCGCAUCCGUCGGCUCACUGGAGUGCACGGGCGAUGGACUCUCGGCCUCGGGCUCCCAAUCUUCGUUGUGGGGUGGACUUGGAGGUGCGUUGGGGGGUGGACUUGGAGGUCGUGCAUUCUCUGUACGAAAGUGAAAAAACUAUUAAAAAUAGGCUUACGUGUGGUGCAACAUUCAGUAAUUGUUGGAGGUGGUGCAUUGGUACCUGGAGGAAUCGGUGGCCUUGGCGCCGCGUUAGGAAACACGAUGUGUUUCUUCUUCCACAAGAUGAUACCAAGCUCCAUUUCUCCCAGUGUCUUCUCGCCUUCACCUCCAGGAAUAUCAAGCUCAAUUGACUGGCAUCCCGACGUAAUUGUUGACAACCCGACACGAGCAUGGGAUGCUGGAAUCUGACCACCAUGGUAGGUUGCUCCAGGUUGAUUCGGUAAAGCAUAGCCUGACGCCACCAUGAAGGAUAUGCACCCCAUUGGCAUAUGUAUCUCACAGUUUGUCUUCUCCGUGACAUCAUCCACGGGGUAGUGAGGCGCCGACGGUUCGACUGUAGGACCGUCUUCUAGCUGCAGCUGCGUGGAACCCACGCUGCUUCUAUGCUGAGAUGGGACGGCAUCUGCUACAGGAUCGUCUUCUAAUUGCUGCUGAUCAGCGUCAGGUGCAGGAUCUUCUUCCUCCUCUUCAGUGUCAGGUACAGGGUGUCCCCCUUUCUUCAAGAGAAACGCCACCUUUUCUUCUAAUGUCGAUAUCCGUUCCAGCACCUUCCUCUUGCUUCUACCACGGCUUCUGUAAGUGCCAAGGUCCGCCGGAAAAACUUGGUUCCACGCGGUAGUGGCUCCAAAGCCUCGUGUUCGUCCCCACUUUUCUGGGUUCCCAAGUGCCUUCGUCAACUCGUCGUUCUCUCUAUCGGGAACAAAAGUUCCUUUUCGAACAGCUUCUAUUGCCUUCUCUAGAUCUGAUACGACUUGUGUUAUUUUUUCCGACCAUGGUCCCUCCGCAACAAUCAUCCCAGUCUUAGCAUCCAACGUUGCCCCAUGUGCGAACAACCAGAACUUGGAACUAUCGGGCCAGUCAUGUGUCUGUGGAAUGAUAUUUCUUUUCAGAAGCGCAUCUUCAUAGCGUCGCCACCUAGGGAGGGCAGUCAUGUAGCCACCUGACCCCAAAAUAUGGUGAUAUUUCUUCUUCUUCGCAUUCUCCGUAUUUGUGGCUGAUCGGGAUGUAAAGACACCCGAUUUCUUGUACGCCUUAAAAUCAGGCCAAGCGUCUCUUAUCUUCACUAGGUGCCCAGUGAAAACUGGAUCUUCGUCCUUAUAUUUCUUCCACAAGUCUUUCUUCCACCUCUGGAAUUGUGCGGCCAUCUUCUUCAAAGCCCACUCCUCGACUUUCUUCUUCUUAUCUUCCGCUACGCUGAAAUUUAGCCAGACCAUGUCGCAAAGCACUCUUUUCAAUCUGUCAUCGACAUAAGUAGCUCCAACGUUGGCGCCGGUCUUCGGCUUAUUCCAUUCUAUUAAGUUGAUCGGGACCAGGUCUCUUACAACAACUCCGCACUGAUUUACAAAUUUGCGAUAAGUUUCUGGGGGUUCCAGUGGUUUGCCAUCAGCAGCAACUUUAUCGAUCGAGUACCUUGCAGUAUCUUUCAACCUUGCGGCCGGGCCUCGUUUCGACUUUGUCUCAGUACUUGCGCUAGCUGUUCUGGAGGGCGCCUAAACGGGAAAAUAAUGAUCCGUUAGUAAGUGCAAUACAAAUUAAUUGUUGCGUCAACAGUGACUUGAGAUAUACAUUGGCAGAGUUUGUUCCGGAGGGCACUUCUGCAUCUACUACAUCUUCUAUAUUCUCAGCUCCGUCACCGGAGUCGUUCAAAAAUUGAUUGCUAAACGCAUGUCCACCGUCGUCAUCAUGAUAUAUGGCCGUUGCAUCUUCAAAAAUCAUCUCGCACAUGUAUCUUUCCUUCUCCGCCUCACCCAUUCCCGUGAGCUGAUCGGCGUGCUGAUCAUGUGGUUCUUGGGGAUCCAUAGCUCAACACCUGCUAGUAACAAGAAUUUAACUUAGCAAAAUUAUUUACGGAAAAGUUUUACGGAACCGGAAAGUUUACGGAAAAGUUUUACGGAGUCGUAAUCGUCGGAAAGUUUUACGGAAUCGUCGGAAAGUUUUACGGAAUCGUCGGAAUCGUCGGAAACUUUCCCCAGCAAAACUAGUGAGAGGUCGGGGGGACAUGACGAAAGGGUCCCUUGGCCAACACAGUUAUAUUGUGUGACACAGAUUUCUUCAUCGCAGUUCUGGCACAAAUGCUCGGUUCCGGGGCGAAACAAAAAUUUCGGGCCUAUUAAUACUAGUAAUAGUAUGUGGUUUGCAUAUGACCAUACCACCAUGUUUCGGCAGUUGAUUCAUCUUUAAGAAAUAGUUUUGGAAACAUUGGAUUCUAAAACGUAAGAAGACGAAAAUAGGAACUACAACAAUAUGGAUAUAUCGUGACUUUAAAAAAAAUCACAAGAGUUUAAAGCUCUUCAAUUUACAAUGAUGUGGGUGAAGAUACAUGCAAUCACAUAAAACAAAUUGUAAGAUCUCUAAACUCAAACCAAAUACCAAGAUCGCAUACCAAAUACCAAGAUCGCGUCGGCGUACGAGAUGUUCCCGUGGGAGAAGAAGAUGAAGUCGCUGCUGCCGGUGCCGGAGUCGACGGCAUGGGGUGGCGAGGAGGCGGCGAGGAGGAGGCGAGGAGGCGGCGAGGCGACGAGGAGGCGACGAGGAGGCGAGGAGGAGGCGAGGAGGCGACGAGGAGGCGAGGAGGCGGCGAGGNNNNNNNNNNNNNNNNNNNNNNNNNNNNNNNNNNNNNNNNNNNNNNNNNNNNNNNNNNNNNNNNNNNNNNNNNNNNNNNNNNNNNNNNNNNNNNNNNNNNNNNNNNNNNNNNNNNNNNNNNNNNNNNNNNNNNNNNNNNNNNNNNNNNNNNNNNNNNNNNNNNNNNNNNNNNNNNNNNNNNNNNNNNNNNNNNNNNNNNNNNNNNNNNNNNNNNNNNNNNNNNNNNNNNNNNNNNNNNNNNNNNNNNNNNNNNNNNNNNNNNNNNNNNNNNNNNNNNNNNNNNNNNNNNNNNNNNNNNNNNNNNNNNNNNNNNNNNNNNNNNNNNNNNNNNNNNNNNNNNNNNNNNNNNNNNNNNNNNNNNNNNNNNNNNNNNNNNNNNNNNNNNNNNNNNNNNNNNNNNNNNNNNNNNNNNNNNNNNNNNNNNNNNNNNNNNNNNNNNNNNNNNNNNNNNNNNNNNNNNNNNNNNNNNNNNNNNNNNNNNNNNNNNNNNNNNNNNNNNNNNNNNNNNNNNNNNNNNNNNNNNNNNNNNNNNNNNNNNNNNNNNNNNNNNNNNNNNNNNNNNNNNNNNNNNNNNNNNNNNNNNNNNNNNNNNNNNNNNNNNNNNNNNNNNNNNNNNNNNNNNNNNNNNNNNNNNNNNNNNNNNNNNNNNNNNNNNNNNNNNNNNNNNNNNNNNNNNNNNNNNNNNNNNNNNNNNNNNNNNNNNNNNNNNNNNNNNNNNNNNNNNNNNNNNNNNNNNNNNNNNNNNNNNNNNNCUUUUACAUUUAUUUACAAAUUGUCUAAAUGUUAUUUUAACACUUAAAAAAUAAAAAUGAUAUUUAUCAAAAUGGUCAAAUUUAGUGGAAACUGGUCAAAUUUUUGAUAUUUAUCAAAAUGGUCAACACAAUUACAUAAAAGGUUUAAUACAUUAUUACACAUCACCAACAACACCCCCUAUCUAUUUUUAUUCUUGCCUUUCUUCUGAUUGCGCCGUAACCAUGGAGUAUCUUCAUCAUUUAACGGGAUGCUUGGAUCAUCUUUGACUUUGAAGGGAGGAAUUUCAUCAAAUUUAUUGUAAUCUUCUGACAUGUCUGUCUUGUCCUCGACUCCCACGAUGUUUCUUUUCCUUGAAAGAACUAUGUGGCGCCUUGGCUCAUCGUCUGAUGUAUUCGGCUUCCUUAUCUUUUCUUUUUCUCGGUCUGCUAGACAUGUCCUUCACAUAGAAAACCUGAGCCACAUCAUUGGCUAGGACGAAUUGAUCAUUGCCGUACCCAAGAUUCUUCUGAUCCACUGUUGUCAUUCCGUACUUCGGGUCUAGCUUCACGCCUGACAGGUUGAACCAUUUGCACCAGAACAAAGGGACCUUAAUGGAAGGUCCGUAGUCAAGUUCCCAUAUCUGCUCUAUGUAACCAUAGUAUGUGACCCUUUGCCCGUUGUCGUCUUUUCCAUCAAACCGGACGCCACUGUUUUGGUUGGUGCUCUUUUUAUCUUGGUCUGCCGUGUAAUAUGUGUUACCAUUUAUCUCGUACCCUUUAAAGGUCAAUACAGUCGAAGAUGGUUGCUUGGCCAACAAGUAUAGCUCAUCUUCAACAAUGUUGUCAUUAAUGAAACGUCUUUGCAACCAACCGCCGAAAGUCUUCGCGUGUUCUUUAGCAAUGAAAUCUUCAGGUUGCUCCGGGUAUUCCGAGCGUAAAAUAUCCUUGUGUUCCUGGAUAUAUGGAGCCGCCAAGCUGGAAUUAACUAGAACUGUGUAGUGUGCUUGAGUGAAAGAUUGCUCGUCCAUACAUGUUGUUGAUUUCUUUCCUAGCGUGCCUUUUCCACGCAGUCUCCCCUCAUGGCGCGACUGAGGAACACCGAUCGGGUUCAGGUCAGGAAUAAAGUCAACACAAAACUCAAUGACCUCCUCUGUUCCAUAGCCCUUGACCAUGCUUCCUUCUGGCCUAGCACGGUUUUUAACAUAAUUCUUCAAGACUCCCGUGAACCUCUCAAAGGGGAACAUAUUGUGUAAGAAUACAGGACCGAGAACGGAAAUCUCUUGGACUAGGUGAACUAUGAGGUGCGUCAUAAUAUUGAAGAAGGUUGGUGGGAACACCAACUCGAAGCUGACAAGACAUUGGACCACGUUCUUCUGUAAACUUGGUAGAGUUGCUGGAUCGAUUGCCUUCUGAGGAAUUGCGUUGAGGAAUGCACAUAGCUUCACAAUGGGUACUCGCACGUUUUCUGGCAGAAGCCCCCUCAAUGCAAUCGGAAGUAACUGGGUCAUGAUCACGUGGCAGUCAUGAGACUUUAGGUUUUGGAACUUUUUCUCUUCCAGGUUUAGUAUUCCUUUUAUGUUCGACGAGUAGCCAGACGGGACCUUGAUACUACUCAGGACUUGGAAAAAGAUCUCCUUCUCUUCCUUGGUAAGAGCGUAGCUGGCAGGACCUUUGAAAUUCUCUGGAUUCAUCAGGUCGUCUCGUUCGUGCAUACGUUGGUGGUGCAGCCAUGCUUUUGGUGUAUCUCUCGACUUCUUCCCAUGCACGCCCAAUAAGUUUAGCAGGUUCACGCAAAUAUUUUUCGUCACGUGCAUCACGUCGAUCGCAGAGCGAACCUCUAGGAAUUUCCAAUAUGGUAGUUCCCAGAAUAUAGAUUUCUUCUUCCACAUGGCUACGUGGUUGUCGGCGUCAUUCGGAACAGAUUGUGCGCCAGGACCCUUACCAAAGAUUACUUUUAUAUCUUUGACCAUGUCAUAUAUAUCAGUACCUUUAGGGAGGGUUGGCUUCCUCCGUGUAUCUGCCUCGCCUUUGAAAUGCUUUCCUUUCUUUCUUACGGGAUGCCUGUCUGGAAGAAAUCGACGAUGCCCUGGGUACACAUUCUUGCAUAUAUGUAUACUUUCAGUCUCGCCUAAACAGUGUGUGCAUGCGCUGUAUCCCUUGUUUGACUGUCCUGAGAUGUUACUAAGAGCGGGCCAAUCAUUGAUGGUUACAAACAACAACCCUCGUAGGUCAAAUUCCUCCUGUUUGUACUCGUCCCACACACGUACACCUUCGUCAGCCCACAACUCUAAAAGUUCAUCAACCAGUGGCCUCGGGUACACAUCAAUGUUGUUGCCGGGUUGCGACGGGCCUGGGAUAAGCACUGGUAUCAUAAUGAACUUACGCUUCAUGCAUAACCAAGGAGGAAGGUUAUAGAUACAUAGAGUCACGGGCCAGGUGCUAUGACUGCUACUCUGCUCCCCAAACGGAUUCAGGCCAUCUGUACUUAGACCAAACCUUAAGUUUCUUGGGUCACGUGCAAAGUCCUCGUACUUAUCGUCGAUGUUUCUCCACGGCGACCCAUCAGCGGGUUGUCUCAGCAUAUCAUCUUCCUUACGGUCUUCUUUGUGCCAUCGCAGCAACUUGACAUGCUCUUUGUUUCGGAACAAACGUUUCAACCGUGGUAUUAUAGGAGCAUGCCACAUCACCUUGGCAGGAACCCUCUUCCUGGGGCGAUCGUCGCCCACAACAUCACGAGGGUCAUCUCGCCUGACCUUAUACCGAAAUGCACCGCAUACCGGGCACGCAUUUAAAUUCUCGUCUUGACCGCGGUAGAGGAUGCAGUCAUUGAUGCAUGCAUGUAUCUUAUGCACUUCCAAUCCUAGAGGGCAGACAACCUUCUUUGCUUCGUACGUACUGCAGGGCAGCACGUUAUCUCUUGGAAGCAUCUUCUUCAUUAUUUUCAGCAGCUUUUCAAAUCCCUUGUCAGAUAUUCCAUUCUCUGCCUUCCAUUGCAGCAAUUCCAGGGUGGUGCCCAACUUUUUCUGGCCAUCUUCGCAAUUUGGGUACAACAAUUUUUUGUGAUCUUCUAACAUGCGCUCCAACUUCAACCUCUCGUUUUCACUUCCGCAGUUUAUCUGUUCUUCACGAAUGACCUGACGAAGAUCAUCAUCAGACUCAUCAACAAUGUCCUCAAGUUCAGGCUCGUCUUCCCCCAUUUCAGUAUCACCGUGUUCACCGAACAUAGGAUAGUUAUCAUUAUCCUCUUCUUCUUCAUUGUCUUCCAUUACAACCCCUCUUUCUCCGUGCUUGGUCCAACAAAAAUAACUGGGCAUGAAGCCUUCUUGCAACAGGUGGGUGUGUAUGGUUCUUGAGUUAGGGAAAUUCCUCUUAUUCUGGCAUUUUUUACAUGGACAAAAAAUAAAUCCAUUCUGCCUGUUUUUCUCAGCCACAUUGAGAAAACUAUGCAUGCCAUUAAGGAAUUCGGGACGACGUCGAUCACUGUACAUCCAUUGCCGGUUCAUCUGCAUUAUAUAAAUUUAUCAAAAACCAUUAUGCUAAAUCAUCAUGACUAAAUUAAUUAAUUAAUACNCAAAGUAGCGUAGUGACCAUACAUAUAUAGUUCUCAUAAAAAUACACACUGAAACCAACCAUAAAAACUCUCUCUAACUAAUGCAUUUAAAAACAACAACAAAUGCGAUCAAAAUCGCAACAAAGGUAACAAUUGACCCGACGGCCUAAUGAUACGAAGCCUCUUUACUAAUUGCAUAUUUUCUAAUCUUUCUAAUCUUCAGGCGCAUUGCGUCCAUCUCGCUCUUGUGACCAUCGACGACACCGGCAAGAACCUUUUCCAAGGUCAUCUUCUCUCUUUCAGUUUUUUCCAACCUUUCUUCAGUUUUUUUCAAUCUUUCUUUCAGGCCAACAUUUUCUUGUUCAACUAAGUGUAACUUCUCAACAAUAGGGUCGAUUGGCAUUUCCGGUUCCACUACCUCCUAGAUAAAAAUAUCUAUGUCAAGUUGGUCGGCGUAAUUAAUUGUCAUAUAAUCAGGAAAUGAAAAUAUGUAGUUAUAAAAGAUAAUAUACCACAUCCGAAUCAUAGACUGGACGAGGGCCAACGGGGACGGAUAUCAAAACCAUGGCGCUAUACAUAUAAAAAAAAUCUUACACAAUAAGAAAAUUAUAUACAAGUAAAUAUGUAAAUCAUACAAAUCAUAAUUUGUUUUGGUAAAUAAAAACACUAGGCUCACCAAGGUUGUGUCGGUGACGGGGCGAUCGACGGCGGUGAGGAAGGGGACAAGGCGCGCGACACUAAAAAAAACCAUAAAUCAUAAUUAAAUUUGAGCUCAAAUUGCAUAUGUAUACAUAACAAAUGAUGAACUCUCUCUAGCUUAGGCAUUUCAUCAAACACCUAGCUAGCACAACAAAAAUGAAAUGAGCAAGAAAACGAGCAAAACUUGCAAUGCCGGAAGAGGGAAUGUUGAUGUUAACCGUAGGACCGAUGGGUGCCAACAAUCUUGACAAAUGGUGGAGAAAAAUGGGGAUGGAUUAGAGCUCCCAAGAGGAAGGAGAGAGCAAAAAUGGAGUUGAGCUCGCGCUGGAAAAAAUGGAGCUGAGCUCGGAGUGGAAUAUAGGGGAGGGCUUUAGGACCGGUUUGUGUUAAAAACCGGUGCUAAAGGGUCUGACAACGGGGCCCCGCAGUUGCUGCAAAAAUGAGAAAAACUUUAGCACCAGUUUGUGAUACAAACCGGUUCUAAAGGGUCUGUCCACUGGGUCCCCGCCCUGCAGCAAACGGUCCAAAACCCUUUAGGACCGGUUUGUGUUACAAACCGGUCCUAAAGGCCUUGCGGCCAUUCGCUGCAGGGAGGGGGCCCAGCGGAUAGACCCUUUAGAACCGGUUUAUAUCCAAUCCGGGUCCAAUGUGGUUGGCUCAAUGCCCUGUUUUCUACUAGUGACGGUGGUGGUGGUACAACCUCAGCGAGGCUUUGCCAAGCGCCGCUACAAACGCGACGGGGGAGAAAAUUGAUCGAGAGAGAGAGGGAGCUCGCCGCCAAAGGCUUGGUGUGUGGAUUCCCCCCUCACUACAAGAAAUAUGCUCAUAUGUGAUGUUUUUUAAAAUGUCGUUGAUGAAUUCGUCAUAAAUCUAUGACGAUUUCAUCCGAGAUCGUCGUAAACCGUUUGAGGGGAUCAAAUCUACAUAUAAAUUACGACGAUGUGAGUCAAAACGUCGUAACCGCAUAAGAUGAGAUCGUCAUAACUUUUACGACGAUUGUAAAAAUGUCGUAACAUGUUCUAACUAUGUUGACAUGGCACUCGUGGGUCCAUUCUAUCCCACCUGAUCCUAGUUUGUGAAGCAACCUACUAUUCUAUCAUUCCGAAAAUUCUCGAAAAAUUCUCAUAAAUACUUUGGACUAUAUAUUUCUCAAAUAUGUGAAAACCCUCCCUUCCAUAGUUCAAAAAUAAUUCAAAAAUAUUCAUUUUCCUAUUUUGUUCAGAAUAGUACUUUGGUUUACGGAAGUGCUAUUUCUAUUUCUUUGAUUACCCUCAUAUUGUUUGGGCACUCUUUCCUAUCCAAAUCAUUGCCUCAUGAAAACUUUCGUAACGAUUUGCCUAGUAAAUCUUUCUCAACAAAUUUCCAAAGUUUGUGUUCAGCUAACAGCUUUGUGAAGGAAGUACUAGAUAGGAAUAUCCUAAUGAUUUGAAUUUUUCCACAUCAUCUAUGUGCCCAAAACGGAGCUCUCCAUAAAAUUUUAGCCACAUCUAACAAUUCAUGUGAGCUCAUCAUCCAAUCUUUGUUUUUGGUAAUAUUUUCAUUUUGUGAAGCAACUAUGUUUUAUAUUGCUUUAUAGUUGAUGAAAAAUUUACCACGGGAUGAUCCUGACCAUAUAACCUCACUGCACCAAAUUUUAGCUCAUUUAGUUCAGCCAGUUUCUCUCAAUAUUUUUCCCAAUAUUCCGUUCAGUAGAGAGCAUUGUGAAGGAAGUACAAUUUUUGUUUAUCCAAAUUUUAUGAACUUUUUACAGUACCUUAAUGUGCCCAAAUUAUCAUCCUCCUCCAAAUUUAAGCUCACUCCAAUUAUCUAUGUGAGCCCAGUUUUAAUUACCAUUUUCUGUCCAGAUUGGCACAUUGUGAAGGAAGUGUCACUUUGGCAUGUCCAAAUGGUAUAAUUUUUAUACAGUGCCUUCAUAUGCCCAAAUUAACAUCAUACACCAAAUUUCAGCUCAAUCCAUUCAUUCAUUUGAUCCUAGCUUCAACAUCCAUAUUUCUGCACAAUGUGUUACUUUGCAAAGCAAGUGCCACCUAGAUUCAUCCAUUUGAGAUAAAAAUUUGCCAAGAGAGUCUCCUUAGUAGAUGAUCAUCCUCAGCCAAAAUUUAGGCCCAUUGUCUAUGUGAAUUACCCGCACCGCUAAUCAAACACUUGGCUGCUAAUUCAUGUUUGUGCUUAGUUCAGUGUCCUCAUGAGAUUAUUCUAUUGUAUUAUUCUUGCUAACACCUAUCGAGGGAUUGUCCAACCCACCAGACAUGACUAUUCCACCUAGAACGCGUGGCAAUGCAACGGUUAGGCGGUGACCAUGCGACUGGCAUGCAAGUUCACGCACCCUGGAGUUGGGGCCCUCGACCACCAUGCAAAUCUCGACGUCAAGGCACCACACCAUGUAUUUCUGAUUAAAUAGAUACUUAUAUACCUACAAAUGAUUUUUGGGAAAAAUAAAGAGCAAACUAUAAUGCAGCUGCAGUUCAAAUUUGACCCGCUUCCAUCUGAAUCGACAUAAAUUUGUCUUUUUCACGAGAGGUGGGUAACAUCUUUUAACACCCAACCAUUUUGUCAAUUGUACAUUAAAUAUGGACUAGUAUUUUAUAAAAAUGAUUUGGUCCAAUUUUAAAACAAAUAUAUGGUAGGUCCUUCACAAAACAACUCAUUUUGAUCACUUGAAAAAUGGAAAAUGAAUUUUUCAUACAAGGAAAAUGAAAACUUCCUUAAUCAACAUUGUUUGCCAUUCCGAUAUGCACCCUUGUGCAUAAUAUUAUAUCAUUUCAACAAACUAUGUCAUGAAUAUGGCUAUAAGAUUGAUCAUUUGGCUUGAAAGUCAUGAAUCUUCACACAUGAUAGCUCAUUUCUAAGAACACUUGUUUAAAAUAAUUGUCGUAUUAUAAGUUUAUUAUUUUUCCUGGUAACUUUGUCACAUAUAAUGACACAAUGCAAUGGUUUUCCAUUUUUUUGAAUUUGUUUUGAAUUUUCCAUGGCCAUUUCAAAACGCGGUCAAAAUAGCGGGUAUGACCGUUCAUACCUAGUGGUUGAAUCUUGGAAAUGUUUUGAUGUUUCUAUGAUUAAAUAGAUACUUGUGUACCUAUAAAUUGUUUUUAGCAAAAAUAUAGAGCAAACUAUAAUGUCGAUGCAGUUUAAAUUUGACCCGCUUUCAGCUGAUUCAACGAAAUUUUUUCUUUUUUAGGAGAGAUCGAUAAAAGCCUUUAACACCCAACCAUUUUGUCAAUUAUACAUUAAAUAUGGCCUAGUAUUUUAGAAAAUUGAUUUGUUCCAAUUUUGAAACAAAUAUAUGGUAGGUCCUUCACAAAAAAGUUCAUUUUGGACACUUGAAAAAUGGAAAAUGAUUUUUACAUACGAGGAAAAUGAAAACUUCCUUAAUCAAUAUUGUUUGUCAUUCCAAUAUGCAUCCUUGUGCAUAAUAUUAUAUCAUUUCAACAAACUAUGUCAUUAAUGUGGCCAUAGGAUUGAUAAUUUGGCUUGAAAGCCAUGGAUCUUCACACAUGAUAGCUCAUUUUUAAGAAAACUUUUUUAAAAUAAUUGUCAUAUUACAAGUUUAUUAUUUUUCCUGGCAACUCUGUCACAUAUAAUGACACAAUGCAAAGGUUUUCCAUUUUUUUAAUUUUUUCAUGGCCAUUUCAAAAUGCGGUCAAAACAGCGGGUAUGACCGUUCCUACCUAGUGGUUGAAUCUUGAAUUUUUUUUAAUGUUUCUCUGAUUAAGUAGAUACUUUUGCAAAAUUUGUAUGGUGCACUUUGGCAAAAUGUUUUUGAUAGAUGCUUCAUAAAAUUCCUCUAUUUUUAGUACUUGAAAAUUAUUUUAAAUCAUUGAUUUUUUGAAGGGAAAUUUGAAGAUUUGCCACAAGUUUGUUUACACUUUGAGGAUUUACCCCUGUUUUUCUUGUUACUAAUAAUUAGCCACACCUUUCUGAGAGUCUUAAUGAUUUGCCCCUUAUGAACGACAUGGAAAUAUAACACAAAAUCAGUGACCAAACUGCCCGAGCCCAAAUUAGCUAGCUUCAUGUUUGACCGUUCCCGUUUCUCUGUUCGUUCGUAUCCUGGCUGCUCGUCAUGGCUCGCAGCAGUGUCUCUCGUUGCUGUGGCUCGUGAACCCGCCUUGUUGUGCUGACCACUCCACUCCAGACCAAGAAGGCCGAGGUCGACGGCCAAAAUAGGUAAGCCACCGUGGUUGAUUCAUGUGCCAGGCGCAAGCAUCCGUCUUCGUCAACCGACGGCGUGCUCACUUAGUCGGGUUGGUGCCUGGUGGUCUUCACGUCGCCGACCCACUAGACCGCCUUGCCAAGUGGACAGACGAUGACGAUCACCCCUGUUCUUGGCUGGGCGUCAACUGUGACACGUGCACGGGCUGCAUGACCUCACUCUCGCUGCUCGCCACGUUGCUCCCUGGCCGCCUCCUCCCCUGCAACAACCUGUUAGGAUCGGCUAUAUCCCCUGCCUCCGCUCUCGUCCUCACAUCUUGACUUGUCUAAACGACAACGAGCGAGCACGCGGAGACGCAUCCGUCUGCUUCUCUUUUGGAAGAGACGAGGAUGACCUUGGGUACCAUGACGAGCUUUUUAGACAUAUUCCAGUGGGUCCCUACCUCCGGGGGCAAAUCAUCACCAAACUGAAAAAGAUAUCGCGAAUAAUCGAUGACAAGGAAAACGAAGGCAAGUCCUCAAAGUGCAAACAAACAUGUGGCAAAUCCUUAAAUUCCCUUUUUUGAACCAAUGAGAAAUCUUUCCACAGAUCGAUGACAUGGCGUCCAUCCAUCCAUCCAUCUACAGAAAAAAAAACCACCCGGAGCCCAAACCCUAGCUCACACCCCCAUCGCACCUUCCUCCCAGAUCCGGCGCCGCCGCACGUUCUCCUCUCCUCCUCCUCCCAGAUCCGGAGCCUCUCCAAGCCGCCCGCGCUCGCCGACGCGGCCGCCUCACCGUGCUCUCUCCGUCCCCACCCACCCGCCUCCCAAUCCCGAUCUCUCUCGCCCCGCUCAUGCAUGAGAGGUCGUCGGGGCCAUCGCUAGUCGCCGCCACGCGCCUCCGCUCCGCCUCCCUGGUCCUGCUGCUCCUGGCGCUGUCCCUGCUCGCCGGGUGGGCACGCUUCUGGGAUACAUGACGACCUCACGGAGGAUAAGAAGAGCCAGCCAACCAAUGAAACGCGAGGAACCUCCUCCACGCGGACCACCCCACCAGAAGCGAUCUGAGCCAUCCAUCACGCGCCCAUCCGACAGUGUAGCAUCUCCCGAAAAACCAAACCCUAACUAUGUGAUCGAGACACCCCACCCCUCACACACAGCCACACACUUCCUCCCUCGUCCCCAUCUCUCUCCCGCACGAACCCCUCUUGCCGCCGCCAUCACCAACGGCGCCCUGAUCCAGGCGACCUCCGGUGAGGAUAGACGGUGCCAAGCACACAACAUGGAUCCCCUUGCUCUGCUCCUCCCCUAUCCCGUGCUUCUUCCCACCCGCGCGCCCGUGCCAAACCCUACCGCGCGUGUGAUCCCGCGUCCGCCCCGAUCUGCGAGAUGUGGCGCGACUGAGCACACACACACAGUGACGCGCAGGGGAAGAGGAGGUUUCCCCCGAUCCGGCGCACGACAGGGAGCCCGCCGCCUGACACGGCGGGGCGAGGGCCCCCUCCGACGCGGGGCGGACCUUCCUGCAUNUGCGGUUCAGGGGCGCGGUGCAGGAAGAACUGCAUGAUGGUGGCACCUUCCACCAUGGUCGCCGAAUUACUGAUUGGGAUCAAGCACUGGUAACCUCUUCACACAACUUUCCCGUAGCAUUUCCAGCACUGAGAGUGCGACCUUUUUUCUGAACAGUACCUUUAGCCGCAUCUUUUCUAAAUACUGUAUACUGGUAGCCGGCGCGAUGUGGGAGACAAUCCACCCCAUCUAAUUCCUUUCCCGUAGUCGGAUGCCCCGUCACAACCCACAAUGCCUUUGUCCUAGCACAAUAACUUAUGGGCAACAAGCGUGCGACAUAGGUGACUGGAAAAUAGAAGGCAUUGCAGGCCAUACCACAAGCAUACGUACGUACACGCUAGCUAAAAAAUGUUUUUGGUGGUAUCUAUCUUCUUACAUUUGCUUAACGUCUACGGGGAAGCUUCUUAGUCUAGUGCAGUAUUUAAUUUGGUGGUGCUAAUGUGGAUUAUGAUAUGACAUCUUCUCCAACUGGGUAUAGGUGGAAAAAAAGCACCUAUGCUUAUCUGAAUGAGCCGGCAGUGACCGCAUCGGUGGAUAUAUUCCAUUUCUUGCAGAACUCUUCAAGGUACAUAUACUGCAAUUCUCUGGAGUCUUAUGCUAUUGUCCAUAACGCCUUCGCCCGGUUCAUCCUUGAUUGGCUCUGAUUCUUCUCGGUCGGCGUCUCGCAGAUGUGGCAGCUCAAGGGCGAGGUUGGCGCCAUCUCCAGGGCCGACGGCUCGGCGCUCUUCGAGAUGGGCAACACCAGGGUCAUCGCCGCCGUUUACGGGCCCCGAGAGGUGCGUCCAUGUCCCUCCUGUAAAAUUCAGUGUAAAGAUGAGCCCAAUGUUAGGCUAACAAGGGCCUGAGUCAAGCCGGUCAUAUGCUGAAAUAGAUUAGGGAUGGUGGUUUAUUUGUUGGCCCAUAACUCAUAUCGAUCGAACUGGUGUGGUGGUUAAUGUAGAAAUAACACCGCGAAAAUAGUUUCCAGCAAUGCUGCAUCGUUGUACUCUCCUCUUUCCUGUUAAUGUUUUCUUUUCAAAAAAUAAAUCCUUUUAAUGUUGUUGUACCCAUCCCCAAACGCCAACUAUGCUAUUUGCACAUCUUGUAGGUUGAGUUCCUCCGUAGAUUAGCGCUUUACAAAUCAGCAUCUCAUACUAGCUAGGAGGCCACUGAUUGCACCUUCUUUUAAAAUGUUUUAAUGUCCAAUGAACUUGCAGGCCUUUGUUAUUUUGUCAUCUGCUAGUUGUUGGUAGGCUGAAUAUGUUGUCCGUGAUGUGUUCUGUUACCUCUGUCGAUCUGUUCAUCAAGCAUAAAUGUUUAUUUUCUGAACUGAUAAGUCCUUGCCAAACACUAAUGAUCUAAUCAUGUUUUGAUUGCAGCGAACAGACGGUCUGCCGUAGCUUGGUCCUUGAAGGCGGGUCUAUGGGACUCUCUCAAAUCUGGGUAAAGUACAUUAUGUACCCUUUUAAAAUUUUGUGUGAUGUUCAUGUUUAAAAAAUAUCUACAUAUUAGAACAUCUAUGUACUAUUGUUAAAGAAACACUAUUUCCAGAGCUUCCCACCUUGAUGAAAAAGGUUAAACCAUUAAACAAAUUCGAGUUUCCCCCAUUAUCUUGGCUAGGACAAAAGUUUUCUUGGAUCAAUUAUUCGGUGUGCGAUUCAUUUCUGUAUGUUACUAAGAUGGACAGGAGAACGAUUCAGAUAUUUGCGAAUCAUAGGCUUUAUUUCGUGCAAAUUGGUUUCAGCCAGCGGUUAGGCAUUGGGCAUUUUGUUUCGCUCACCCUAUCAACUGUGAUUUAGGAUUAUGAUGAUUAUUGAUGUAGCCAACAUAAAAUCCUGCCUGCACAUUUUGAAGCACGACUCCUGUGAUGAUUUAUACGCACUCUGUUUGUGUUUUAUCUUGAAAUUUAAGCUUACUAUACCCUGAGUAUAAGAUGUUACAGUGUUGGUACCUUCACUUAUGUCUCAAUUAGUGGUAGUUUAAUGUCUACUGCACUAAACACCCAGCUAGUCUUUUUUCUACCAGUAUGUUGCAGCCACCAGCAUUCUUGUAGUUGUUGCUGAGUUAAGUUUGGUUCACAUGAUUGCAUUCUACGCUUUGAUAUAUUGUUCCUCAUGGUUGUUACUGUUAUCCAUGGCCUCAUGCUUCAGGAUUGACUCUUAACUGCUUGAGCUCUUUAGUCCUUCCAAAACAAGGUCUUGAUGUCCCUCUUACGGAAAAAUGUUCAUAUCGGUUCCUGCAUGAUGCGUGUAUGUACGUUGGAUGGUCACGUUCUAGUUUACUAGCUAGCUAGUAAGCAUUGUUUGGUUAGUGCUCUCCUGCUUGGUUGGCUAAACAUAUUCGUUUGUUUGAUUUGGCUUCACAGUUACAUAUUUUGAUUUGAACUUAGUCUAUGUUUAUGCCUAGUUUCUCUUAAUUAUCUUAAAUGGUGUGGUACCGUGUCUAUGCGCGCACAACUUCCUCUCACAAAAAAAAACUAAGUGCAUGUCUCUCUCACUUUUGUUCGCAUUUCUUUUAACAUCAUCUUGAGGAUGAAUACAAAUCUUUUUAUUUCUAAUAUUUUUAUAUUUAUUUCGUUUUGAUUGAUUCAUGUGCAGUGUAAUGUUCUUGUAGGAUGACAAGUUGUCGCAUCUCGAGCAUGUCUCAUAGGAGAGUAGAAUGAAGUCCAUUGUAUUGUUGGGAUAGUAGCAGAUGUGCCAUUGUUCUGUUGUGCAAUUUUGUCCGUUCUUGCUAUAUUCUUGUGUAAGGAAAUGUAUUCACGAGAUGAGUUAUUGUGUUAUGUAAACCUGGGAGAUGUAUUAUGUGAUGUUAUAUGAUGGAUGGUUUUAAUUCGACUUGGAGUUUUCUUGAUUUGAAUAUUAAAUAGUGUUGGAUUUAAUAUUGGACAAAUAAUUGGGUUGAAAAGGCCCAACAAAUAGAAAUGAAACCAAGUUCUGAAACAAAAAGUUGCUGAAUUCAAAAAUAAAAAAGGCCAAAACUAAAACUCGACCCAAUGUAUUUGGGAACUAAAAGGGCCAGGGCCCAAAUUAUAGUGAUACAAAAAAAUUCAUAAAAAACUAGAAGUGGUUGUAAAUAGCCCCAAUAAGAAAAAGCCCCAAAAAAAUAAAACCAGCCCAUAUGCUCAAUUGAAAUGGGUUGGGCUGAUUUCAACCAUGACGUUUUGAUUUCAUCGUAAUUUUGCCACGUAGGACUGGGUUAGAUUGGCAACGACGAUUUAGGAUCAUCGUAAAGGUUACGACGAUCCAGAAAUUCUCGUAAAAGUUACGACGAUUUCGAUCAAAACAUCGCUGUUGUUCAUUUCUGACGCUCCGUUUUCGACGCUUGGUUUUUCGUCGUGAGAUCGUCGUAAAUUAAAAACCAUGACGAUGUAGCGACGAAAAAAUAGCGUCGUGUAUUAGCAUAUUCCUUGUAGUGGAUCUCUGAUACGUCUCCAUCGUAUCUACUUUUCCAAACUCUUUUGCCCUUGUUUUGGACUCUAAUUUGCAUGAUUUGAAUGGAACUAACCUGGACUAACGCUGUUUUGAGCAGAAUUGCCUUGGUGUUAUUUUCAUGCAGAAAUCAAAGUUCUCCAAACGUCCUAAAAAUUUACGGGGAGCAGUUUUGGAAAAUAUCAAAAAUAUCUGCGCCAAGUAGGGGGUGGGCCAGUGGGCCACAAGCCCUCGCUCCGCCACCACCCCCCUGGUGGCGGUGGGGAGGCUUGUGGGGCCCACACGGCUCUGCCGCCCCCAAUUCCAGCUCUAUAAGAUCCCUUUCGUCCCAGAAAAUAAAAGAGAAGUUGUCGUCUCGUUUUCGAUACGGAGGCGCCAUCACCACCUGUUCUUCAUCUGGAGGGCAGAUCUGGAGUCCGUCUUGGGCUCCGGAGAGGGGAAAUCGUCGCCAUCGUCAUCAUCAACCUUCUUCCCACUCCAAUUCCAUGAAGCUCUUCGUCGUUCAUGAGUAGACUAUUCAUAGGCUCGCUGGGCGGUGAUGAGUAGGAUGAGAUCUAUCAUGUAAUCGAGUUAGUUUUGAUCGGGAUUGAUCCCUAGUAUCCACUAUGUUCUGAGAUUGAUGUUGCUACUACUUUGCCAUGCUUAAUGCUUGUCACUAGGGCCCGAGUGCCAUGAUUUCAUAUAUGAAAUUAUUAUGUUGUCACCAAUAUAUGUGCGUUUUAGAUCUGAUCUUGCAAGUUGUAGUUACCUACUAUGUGUUAUGAUCCGGCAACCCCGGAGUGACAAUAACCGGAACUACUCCUGGUGAUGACCAUAGUUUGAGGAGUUCAUGUGUUCACCAAGUGCUAAUGGGUUGGUCCAGUUCUUUAUUAAAAGGAGAACCUUAGUAUCCCGUAGUUUCCUUUUGGACCCUGCUGCCGCGGGAGGGAUGGACAAUAGAUGUCAUGCAAGUUCUUUUCCCUAAGCACGUAUGACGACACACGGAAUGCAUGCCUACAUCACAUUGACGAACGGGAGCUAGCUACAUAUCUCUCCGUGUUAUAGCUGUUGCAUGAUGAAUAUCAUCCAAACAAAUCACCGACCCAUUGCCUAUGAGUUUGUCCUACUGCUGCUACUACUGUUGCUACUACUACUUGUACUACUGUUGCUACUGCUGUUACUUGUCUUGCUCUGCUAUUGCUACUAUUGUUGCUACUGCUGUUACUUGUCUUGCUCUGCUGCUGCUACUACUAUUGCUACUGAUAUUACUUGUCUUGCUGUGCUACUACUGUUGCUACUACUGUCGCUUGCUACUGUUGCUACUUGCUACUGCUGUCACUACUGAUUUUACUUGCCGCUGCUAUUGCUCGUUACUUUGCCGUUACUCGCUACUUUGCUGUUACUACUUUGCUUGCAGAUACUAAUCUUUCAGGUGUGGUUGAAUUUGACAUAUUCAGCUGCUAAUACUUGAGAGUAUUCUCUCACCUCUCGUCGUGCGAACCAACAAAUUUGUGUUGAAUACUCUACCCUCGAAAACUGCUGCGAACCCACACGCAGGUGGGCCGUCAACAACAUUCUUCUAGUUUCAUUGCUGGGGAGUGCUAGUAGCAUUCUUCUGGUGCCGUUGCAGGGGAAGGCUUGUUGUCAUCAGCAUUCGUCUAGCCAUCGCCAGAGAUUGCAAUCAGCAUUUUUCUGGCGGCGUUGCCAGGGGGGUAUUGCUAUAUUCUCUAAGUUACUUGGGAUUUAUAUCUGUUGAUAACUAUGAAGAAUCUGAAGGAUCCGAAGACCAAAGUUUUGCCCUCAACUACGAGGGGAGGUAAGGAAUUGCCAUCUAGCUCUGCACUUGAUUCACCUUCAGUUAUGAGUAAGUUUGCGACAUCACCUCCUGCUAGAAAUCUUGAUAUGUCGCCUGUGAUUGAUGAUGCUUGUGAUACUACUGCUAGAGAUGCUAUGCUUGAUACUAUGCCUGAUGAUAUGCCUGAUACUGCUAGAGAUGCCAUGCUUGAUACUAUGCCUGAUGAUACUAUGCUAGAGAUACUACUUUGCCUGAUACUAUGCUAGAGAUGCUAUGCUUGAUACUAUGCUAGAGAUGCUAUGCUUGAUACUAUGCUAGAGAUACUACUUUGCCUGAUGUUCCACUAGGGGUAUUCCUUGAUGCUCAUAUUGCUAGAGUUACUGCCGAUGCCCGUGAUGCUUCUGAAACUGCCGAUACUAUUGAGAUAGAACCUGCUUUUGCUCCUGAUAGAUCUAGCCCUCCUAGAUAUGAAUUGCCUGAUAUACCUGAGGGGUACGUUAUGGAGGGAGAGAUAGCUGAGGAUUUUCUUGCGUGUAAGGAUGCGUAUGACGCUGAGAAAUUACUUCUCAAGUGGAAGGAAAAAUCUCGGGAAGCUAGGAAGAAAAAUGACCCAAAGUUUGCCACUUCGCCUAUCUUUGUCACCGAUAAGGAUUAUGAAUUCUCUGUCGACCCUGAGAUAAUCUCUCUGGUCGAAUCUGAUCCUUUUCACGGUUAUGAGUCUGAGACUGUCAUAGCCCAUCUUGCAAAACUAUCCGAAAUAGCCAACCUUUUCACUAAUGAGGAGAAGAUCCGCCACUACUAUAUCCUUAAGUUAUUUCAUUUCUCUCUAAAGGAUGACGCUAAAGCCUGGUUCACCUCUCAUGCUCCUGGAUGUGUGCGUAGUCCCCAGGAGAUGGUCUAUUACUUCUGUGAGAAAUAUUUCCCUGCCCAUAAGAAGCAAGCUGCCUUGCAGGAAAUAUACAACUUUGCUCAACUCCAAGAAGAGAGUCUUCCACAAGCUUGGGGGAGGCUCGUCCAACUACAAAAUGCUUUGCCUGAUCGCCCUCUUAAGAAGAACGAGAUACUUGAUAUCCUCUAUAAUGGACUUACCGAUGCCUCUAGAGACCACCUAGAUAAUUGUGCCGAUUGUGUUUGUAGGGAACAAACUAUAGAACAAGCUGAGACCCUACUAAAUAACCUCUUGAUCAAUGAUAAUGCUUGGACUAUUCCCGAACCACCUCCGACGCCAACUCCUAAGAAAAGAGGUAUUCUAUUCCUCAGUCCCGAAGAUAUGCAAGAAGCCAAGAAAUCUAUGCAAGAGAAAGGCAUUAGAUCUGAAGAUGUCAAAAAUCUACCACCUAUUGAAGAGAUCCAUGGUCUCGAUAACCUAUAGGUAGUGAGCCUUUGAUGAGAGUGAUAUUCCUGCGUAGGUUUGAUGAGAGUGAUAUUCCUUUUGAUAAACCUGCUAGCCUAUGCUUUGAUGAAUUUGACAACUUUGUUGCCAAACAACAGAGUUUCAAUGCUUAUGUUAGCAGACAUUUGGAACAAAGUACUCGUAUGCUUAGCCAUUUAAGUGCUUGUGUAGACAGAAAUGUCAAUGAUCUGAAGCUUCUGAGUAAACAUGCCUCUAUGAUUACUACUCAAGUAGAACAAGUACUCAAAGCUCAGAAUGACCUGCUCGAUGAAUUAAAUGACAACUCUGUCAGAGUCAUUACUAGAGGAGGCAAAAUGACUCAGGAACCUUUGUAUCCUGAAGGUCAUCUUAAGAGAAUUGAUCAAGAUUCUCAAGGAAUCAAUGCUGAUACACCUAGUCAUCCUAAGGAGAAGAAGAAGGAUGAUAGAAACCUACACGCCAGUUCACCAAAUACCGUCACACCUGAAGAACCUAAUGAUAUUUAUGCGUCUGAUGCAGAAACACAAUCUGGUGAUGAACAUGAACCUGGUGACAAUAUGGACAGCGAUGUUCAUAAUAAUGCUCAACCUAGCAAUGAUGAGGAUGUGGAGAUUGAACCUACGGUUAAUCCUAAUAACCCACAACCUAAGAAAUACGAUAAGAAUGACUUCAAUGCUAGGAAGCAUGGUAAAGAAAGAGAGCCAUGGGUUCAGAGACCUAUGUCAUUUCCUCCUAAGCCAUCCAAGAAAAAGGAUGAUGAGGAUUUUGAGCGCUUCGUUGAGAUGAUAAGACCCGUAUUUCUGCAGAUGCGGUUAACUGAUAUACUCGUCUCUGUAUGCCAAGUACAUGAAAGAUAUCGUGACUAAUAAACGGAAGAUACCAGAUCUUGAGAUCUCCACCAUGCUUGCCAAUUACACUUUUAAAGGUGGAACUCCUAAGAAACUUUGUGAUCCCGGAGUGCCCACUACACCUUGCUCCAUUAAAGGAAACUACGUAAGAACUGCCUUAUGUGACCUUGGAGCCGGUGUUAGUGUUAUGCCGCUCUCUUUUUAUCAUAGACUUGAGUUGGAUAAGUUGACACCCACUGAAAUUUCUCUGCAAAUGGCCGACAAAUCAACUGCUUUCCCUAUCGGCGUUUGCGAGGAUGUGCCUGUUGUGGUUGCUAAUACCACUAUCUUAACAAACUUUGUUAUCUUGGAUAUUCCCAAGGACAAUGACAUGGCUAUCAUCCUCGGAAGACCCUUUUUAAACACUACAGGGACUGUUAUAGAUUGCAACAAGGGCAAUGUCACUUUCCACGUCAACGGUAAUGAGCACACCGUGCACUUUCCGAAGAAACGAUAUCCAGUACAUUGCAUCAAUGCUAUCGAAAAGACUUCAUCGAUUCUCAUUGGGAGCUUUGAAUGCCCUAUUCCUCGUGUCAAGAUGAAGUAUGAUUUGCUUGUUGGGGAGAUACAUAUACCCAUUGAGGUGACUUAGUGGCUAUUCAAAAAUUCUCCGUUCUCUCUUGCGAUUCCAGAAGGUUCUAUCAUAAGGACUUGAUCAAUCCCAUUGACGGAUUUCUUUCGAUGACCAUGAAACGGAUGAAUCAAGGAGUCACAUACCUCUGUUUUAAGUUUUCCUUUUCUUUUGCUUAAAAGAAAAAUGAUAGAAUUAGUUUAGUUUUUCCUGUUUUUCGUUUUAGCGGCCCAGAGAAAAAUACCUCGAAAAUAAAAAUUCUCCGAUGGUCCUGAAAAUUUAGUAUGAUUUUUUCUAGAAUUUUUGAAAAUUUCUGGGCCUGAGAGCUGGCCUGGGGUCCUGACCAGUGGGCCACAAGCCCUUCCACCCCCACCUACCCCCCUGGUGGCGGGGUGCAAGCUUGUGGGGCCCACACGCACCCCCUCCACUCAUUCCAGCUCCCAGCCUCUUCUUCCACCCCAAGAAAAAAUUGUUUCGCAGCUCAAACUCGUGUUCUUCCUCAUUUGGCUGUGAUUUUCGAUCUCCUUGCUUAAAGCACCAUUCUCCGAACCGCUUUGGGGAAAUUACUCCUUGGUAAGUGACUCCUCCAUUUGUCCAAUUAGUUUUUGCUCUAGUGCUUUAUCCUUCGCGUAUUCUUCCUACCUUGGUGACCCUGUUCUUGAGCUAGAAAUGUUGAUUUUAGUUGGUCCCAUGUAGUUUUAGCGCGUGAUAUGGUCUCUAGGCACUAGUAGGAGUAGUUGCUACAAGUUGGGUUAAUCUUCAUUCACUUUUCUUUCAAAGUCUCUAAAAAUUUCAGAAUUUUUCAGAGCUAGAAAAAGGAAAAGAUGAGGAGGUUCUUGAGAGGCUCUUCAAGCCGUAACCCCAAGGAGGAUGAGAAGAAUCACCCCAAGUACGUAGUCCCUCAGGUCACAGAAGUUCGAGCGUGCGAGUGGCCAAGUGAUGAAUUUUUGCGCGUCGUCGGACUUUAUGAAGACUUUUAUUACUUGGUGGAGAACACAGGUCUUACUGCGUUUGUUGAAGAUAAGUGCCCACAAUACCUCCUCCUCACCAAUAUUUUCGUUCAAAGCUUCAACUUUUAUCCGAGGAAGAAUCCUCCCAUGGUUGAGUUCAUGAUAUACGAUGUCCCGAGUGCAUGACGCUGCAGGAUUUUUGCAAUGUAUGCAAAUUACCUUAUGUUGGGGAUAUCCAUGAUCCUCGUCCACGGGACUUGGAGGAUUUCAUUGGUUCUAUUGCUCUUGGAGAGGAGAGAGGAGUGUCUCGCGCUAGAAUUGCUAGCAUACAUUUUCCUGUGCUUCGGUACUUCUCACUAUUUGUGGGAAAAUGUUUGAUUGGCCGUGGGGAGGCUGGAUCACAUAGUUCUCCAGACCUUGUGGUUCUGCGCGAAGGCCUUUAUAACGAUAAGACUUAUAGCUUGGGCGCUAUAGUAGCUCAACGGUUGAACCUGAACCGUUCUAAAGGAGUCGUCUAUGGAGGUAUCUAUGCUACCCGUCUUGCCAGACACUUUGAGAUACCCAUUAGACUGGGAGAGGAAGGAGAGAUGCUUCUCCCUGAGAGGUAUCUGGAUUAUGACAGCAUGGUUCGCCAUGAUUUUCUGGAUAGAGAUGCUAGUAGAUGGAUGAUUUUCAACCUGGUGUUUAGUCAAGGUACUCGAGAGACUAUUACUUAGCCUGCUCCUUCUUUGUUCGAUCUUCAUGCAGGGAGGUACACUAUUAUGCCCGCGGACAUCUACGCAUAUUGGGGCUUGGCCCAACCACAGGCGCCCCUGCCCGAGCCGCCAGUGGAGUACCAGACGCCAGUUUAUCAGUGGGAGCCAGAGGAGCUCACACAGCAGUGGCAUCCACAGUCUUCUCCGGAGUAUCCUGGAGCUGGUUAUUUCCCACCUUGGGAGUAGACCAAGCUAGGCCAAAAUCCUAAGCUUGGGGGAGUACGUGUUCUCACCGACUUUACAUUCAUGGUUAUGCUUUCACUUUGUUAGCUGAUGUUUACACUUUUCCACUGUAUUAUCCAUGCUAGUUUCUUUUUGUUUUCUUGUUUUCUUGUUUUGUGUCCUUUUGAGAAAACCCAAAAAGAUUUUUCUCUCUUCUUUUGCUUGUUGGGAGCUUUCCCGUGUAAAUAGUUUUCUUUUUCUUUGUGUCAAGGUAGAAUAUAUUGGUUACAAUGUUUAUUUGUUCAUGCAUGCUUACCUGUUUAGCUUUCAAAGAGCCAUAUUAUUUUGUCAUCUCCUUUGUGUUUGCCUGCAGAUUCAGCUUAGUCCAAUGCGCUUAUUAUCGUUCUCAUCGUUCGAUCGUGCAAAUGAAAGGCAACAAUGAUGAUAUAUGAUGAAGUGACUGAGACUGAAAAGCUGGUAUGAACUCUAUCUAUUUUGUUUUUGUAAAUAUGACUAGCUUAUCGACCUAGAUUCAACUUUGUUGUGAGAGAACCAUGUUUGCAAUGACAACUUAGAGAUCAUAGUUUCUGAUGCCAUGCUUAUUUAGCUGAGAGCUUAUAAUGGUUUGUCUUGAAUGCCAACAUAGAUUUUGAGAUGACUAUGAUGUAGUAUGAUAGGAUGGUAUUCUCCUUUGAAUGUUUCAAGUGGCUUGACUUGGCGCAUGUUCAUGCAUGUAGUUGAAACAUAAUCAACAUAGCCUCUAUGAUGUUCGUGUUCAUGGUGAUUUAUAUCCUGUUCAUGCUUGCAUUCAAUGUUAGUCAAACUCAUUGCAUCUUGAUAACUGUUGCCUUUUGCUACCCAUCACUUGUACCAAGCGGAAUACUGCUUAUGCAUCCACUUACAUAAAACCAAAAGUUUUUCCAUGAGAGUCCACCAUACCUACCUAUUUGCGGUAUCUACCUGCCGUUCCAAGUAAAUUUGCAUGUGUCAUUCUCUAAACCUUCAAGAAAUAAUUUGUUUUGCAUGCCCAAACUGCUCAUGUGGUGAGAGAGGUCUAUUGGUAUCUUCCAUGCUAGGAGUGUUAUCCUCGACAUGUGUUUAUUCACAGUCAUUCACGAGAAAUGGGCCGGUAAUUGGAAUGCCCAGUUCCACGCUUAAAUCGAAAACAUAACUGUAAAACAAGACUCCCCCCGGAUUGAUGUUAGUAUGGACGGUACCCGAGGAUUCGGCUAGCCGUGGAGUGUGAUUGAUUGGUGGUGGGGGAGUUAAAACUUUACUUUUCUGUUUGGGAACCGCCUAUAGCAUGAGUAGCAUGGAAGAUAUUGAGAACUCUUGGUCAUUGCGCUGACAAUGAAAGCAUGCCACCCAAAAUUAUUAUCUCUGUUUUCAAAGCUUCAGCUCUGGCACCUCUGCAAAUCAAUGCUUCCCUCUGCAAAGGGUCUGUCUAUUUAUUUUCCCGUCGAGUCAUCCUCAUCUUAUAUAAGCACCAAUUAGAGAGCACCUCUGUCAUUUUUAUGCUUUGCUUUUGAUUGAUAUUGAGUAUGACUAUGACUGGAUCUUCGUUGCUAUGAGUUACAAUGUUUAGUCAGCCCUUGAUCUUUGAAAGUGCUCUGCAUUUAUGUUUUGCGGUCUCAGAAAGAGCUAGCGAGAUACCACCUAUUCAUAUUGCUUCAUGCUCGUUUUGAUUGAAGUGUUGGUAUUUGUAACUCAUUAUUAUUUGCUCGUUAGCUCAUUAUGCCAUUGAUAUUAGUUUACCGUGAGACCUUUGUGUCAUUUGCUUAUGUGGUUAACUUGUGAUCUUGCUGUAAUUCUGGUUAUGAGUUAGACAUAGUUGCAACAACAAGAUCAAACAGAGUUUGUCAAAGUUUUUCUUUCUCUCUCAGUUUGUCAACUGAGGUGCUUGAGGACAAGCAAGGUUUUAAGCUUGGGGGAGUUGAUACGUCUCCAUCAUAUCUACUUUUCCAAACUCUUUUGCCCUUGUUUUGGACUCUAAUUUGCAUGAUUUGAAUGGAACUAACCUGGACUAACGUUGUUUUCAGCAGAAUUGCCUUGGUGUUAUUUUUGUGCAGAAACCAAAGUUCUCCAAACGUCCUGAAAAUUUACGGGGAGCAGUUUUGGAAAAUAUCAAAAAUAUCUGCGUGAAGUUCCACCUCAGGCGGUGGGCCAGUGGGCCACAAGCCCUGGCUCCACCACCACUCCUCCUGGUGGCGGUGGGCAGGCUUGUGGGGCCCACGCGGCUCUGUUGCCCCCAACUCCAGCUCUAAGAUCCCUUUCGUCCCAGAAAAAAAAAGAGAAGUUUUCGUCGCGUUUUCGAUACGGAGGCGCCGCCACCACCUGUUCUUCAUUUGGAAGGAAGAUCUGGAGUCCGUCUUGGGCUCCGGAGAGGGGAAAUCGUCGCCAUCGUCAUCAUCAACCUUCUUCCCUCUCCAAUUCCAUGAAGCUCUUCGUCGUUCGUGAGUAAUCUAUUCGUAGGCUCGCUGGGCGAUGAUGAGUAGGAUGAGAUCUAUCAUGUAAUCGAGUUAGUUUUGAUGGGGAUUGAUCCCUAGUAUCCACUAUGUUCUGAGAUUGAUGUUGCUACUACUUUGCCAUGCUUAAUGCUUGUCACUAGGGCCCGAGUGCCAUGAUUUCAGAUCUGAAAUUGUUAUAUUGUCACCAAUAUAUGUGUGUUUUAGAUCCGAUCUUGCAAGUUGUAGUUACCUACUAUGUGUUAUGAUCCAGCAACCCUGGAGUGACAAUAACCGGAACCACUCCCAGUGAUGACCAUAGUUUGAGGAGUUCAUGUGUUCACCAAGUGCUAAUGCGUUGGUCCGGUUCUUUAUUAAAAGGAGAACCUUAAUAUCCCAUAGUUUCCUUUUGGACCCCGUUGCCACGGGAGGGAUGGACAAUAGAUGACAUGCAUGUUCUUUUCCCUAAGCACGUAUGACGACACACAGAAUGCAUGCCUACAUCACAUUGACGAACGGGAGCUAGCUACAUAUCUCUCUGUGUUAUAGCUGUUGCAUGAUGAAUAUCAUCCAAACAAAUCACCGACUCAUUGCCUACGAGUUUGUCCUACUGCUGCUACUACUGUUGCUACUACUGCUGCUACUACUGUUGCUACUGCUGUUACUUGUUUUGCUCUGCUGCUGCUACUACUGUUGCUACUGAUGUUACAUGUCUUGCUCUGCUGCUGCUACUACUGUUGCUACUGCUGUUACUUGUCUUGCUUUGCUGCUACUGUUGCUACUACUGUCGCUUGCUACUGUUGCUACUUGCUACUGCUGUCGCUACUGCUUUUCCUUGCCGCUGCUAUUGCUCGUUACUUUGCCGUUACUCGCUACUUUGUUGUUACUACUUUGCUUGCAGAUACUAAUCUUUCAGGUGUGGUUGAAUUUGACAUAUUCAGCUGCUAAUACUUGAGAGUAUUCUCUCACCUCUCCUCGUGCGAACCAACAAAUUUGGGUUGAAUACUCUACCCUCGAAAACUGCUGCGAACCCACGCGCUGGUGGGCCGUCAACAAUAUUCUUCUAGUUUCAUUGCUGGGGAGUGCUAGUAGCAUUCUUCUGUUGCCGUUGCAGGGGAAGGUUUGUUGUCAUCAGCAUUCGUCUAGCCAUCGCCAGAGAUUGCAAUCACUCUCCCCUCAUAUAUAUAUGGGGAAGAGAGGAGGGGGCCGGCCCUAGGGUUUCCUCUAGGGGUGGGGGUUGCGGCCUAGGAGGUGGCUUGCCACCCAAGCAAGGGUGGCCCCACCCCUAGGGCUUGCCCUUCUGUUGGGGAUAUUAUCUGUUGGGUAACCCGCCCUAGUUGGGCCGGGUCACCCAUGCUGGCGACUCAUCUCCAAGUGGUUCCGGCCUUGGCCCAGCGAGGUCGGGAGUCGUAUGACGGUUCAGGACCUUCGGGGAAGUCCAUUGUAGGGAAGAUCUCCAUGUCUUGGAAAGAUGGCGACUUAGAGAUCGGAAGAAUCACAAUUUAUGUAAAGGAAAGGACUCUUGUAAACCCUAAGGACUCGACCUGUAUAUAAAGGCGAGUCCAAGGGAAGGAGAAGGGAGGUUAGAAAUCAUCGAGUGCUAGGUCAGGCGAGUUACACCCCCUUGUAAUCGAAACACCAUCAAUACAAACACCAAGCAGGACGUAGGCCUUUACCUCCUCACGAGGGGCCGAACCUGGGUAAAUCUCUAUCUCGCACCCGCAUAACCCCUUUGAGUCACCACCAAGAUGCGAUGGCUCCAACACUAAGUCCUUUCACGAGGACAUCUGCCGUGACAAAACCAUGACAGUUGGCGCCUACCAUGGGUCCUGCGCACGGUGGAGUUGAAUUCUCAAAGGGAGCCCUACCAGGGUCUGGGAGCUACGCAGUGGGGAUCAUGACUCGGAGCCACCGCGGGAAGUACUACAUCAAUAACUUGCUAUGGGGGCCCGAGGCCGAUUCGAUCGAAUCCGGCUACAGAAUCCCCUUCGGCAAGAUCAACGUCUUCGUCGGCAUGGUUGGAUCGCCUAUGCCUGAGCCGGACAUCUCCUCCGACAUCGUCGAGCCGGCCAGGUACGUCUUUGUUGGGUUCACGCAGGGAUCUAAGGAACCAGAACAAUCGGCGACCCAGUAGACCAUGCCGGUCAACACAGAUGACGAAUCAUCCAUGGGCGAUUCAGAUUCAAUUCUAUCUCUACAUGGGGGCUGCCUUGGGGGCUUGUCACUAGCCAUGGACCCUGAGGUUCUUGACCGGACCCGCCGUCAGAUCGACGUUUACAUGGCAGGGGCGACUCAGCCCUCGCCAAACCCGGCACGCGGAGAUGGGGCUGGCGAAACGUCUAGAAGCCCGGCCAUGAUCUUGGUGGAGUAAGCGGCGGAGAUAACGAGGCUCACGGCGACCCCCAUAACGUCAGAAAACCAGGACGCGAUAAACACGAAGCUAACAAAACUAAGAGAUGGGGUGGCAAAGGCUCAGCGGGACGCUGAGGUGGAAGCCGCCGGGAUCGAGACCCGGCAGGCUCAAAUUACCGCCGAGGUAGCUCGCUUGAAUGCCGAAACCUGGCGGCUCAAAAGGCAUCAGCGUGCACCAGACGCCGUCCAUCAGCGGAGGCAUCAGGGUCAUUUACCCCCUGAUCUCAACCCAACCCGCCUGUUCGACACUCCACGAACACCCGGGGCAGGAGACGCCCCGGGGGCAGGGACGGGCCAGCCACCAAACCCGCUGUUUCAGCCAGCUGUGAUCGCGUCCCCCGAUUCCAGACACCUCGAGGUCACUUUUCCAACCCGAUGGAAAACGUCCUUGACGCAACUCGCCAUUUAGAAUCCCUUCCGAUUCAUGGCAACACUCCAGCUGAGAUAGAAGCAAGGAACGCCAUUGAGAUGUUGAAGAUGGCGGUGGUUCAAAACGCCCAGUUUUCACACAACCUAGAUCGGCUGCACUCCACUCCCUAGACAAGCCGCACCAGGAGUCGACCAGAGGACCAGCCCGCCAUAACCAGCGGACCGCGACCCUUUCCCCAGGUCAACUCGCCUGAUCGCCGAGACACGCCAGGUCGGGAUCACCCGAACACCCAAGUUUCCCCAGCGCCUCUUGUUGGAAGCGGCAGACAAGUGGGGGUGCCAUGCUUGGCCCCCACCCUUCACAACGAGUGAAUGCCCAAGGAUUUUAAAGGACCAAGAAAGGUGCCUAACUACACUCCGAACCUUGAGCCGUCGUCAUGGGUCAAGAGUUACGAAAUCGCCAUGGACAUGCUCGAUGUAAGCGAAGCAGUCUGCGCCAGAUACUUCACAAUGAUGCUCGAAGGGACGACACAUACUUGGUUAAAGCACUUGCCCCCCAAAUCCAUCCAGUCUUGGGCCGAAUUAAAAGAGCGUUUCGUCAAAAAUUUCCGAGGGACCUGCAAGCGCCCGAUGACAAUAGUCGAUUUACAACACUGGGUUCAACGCCCGGACGAGUCGGCCCACCGCUGGACGCGGCGGGUCGCGGAAAUCAUUCAUUCGUCGGAUGGUAUCACGGCGGCUCAGGCUGUGCUAAUCCUGGAGCAGAACUGCCACUAUGAGCCCUUGGUGCAGAAGUUGGGACGACUCAAGCGAAAGGUGCAAGAUAUGGGGGAGCUAAUGGACACCCUCACUAGGUACGCUGAGGCGACGACACCAAAGAUCCAGGAGAAGAUGGUGGUAAAGCCAACUCGCCAAGGAAAGGCGAGUCAUCCAAAAAUCAUACCCGGUUCGAGGGACGCGCCCGCCAUAAUCAUGGAGCUUAUGGAAAAAUAAGCAGCAGGAAGUGUCUUCGGACUUAGUUGCCAACACCAACGCCAACAAUGGCAACCAGCGCCAGAAGAAGAAUAGGGGUUACAGUGGCAAAAAGCCGCGCAACUAUAAUGAGUUACUCAAGGGCCCCUGCCCGCACCACGCCAUGGCAGACGGACCGGCGACUCAUUCCUGGGAGGACUGUUACGUGAUGCGGGAGUUUCGGGCGGAGGCGAUCAAAAAAGGGCAAGGCGGCGACCCGGACCAACGGCAGGAACAGUUUGGCUCACCUAAUCAAUGCCAGAACCCCUUCGGCGGCUUCUCCGAACCCAGGGCUCAGGGCGGCUCGCAGCCAAACAAUGGCCAGUAUCCGGUGCAUCACCAACGACGGUAUAACCAGCCGGGAGCCUUUCAACAACCACCCCCACAGGGGGUUCUGCAGGGGCAGGAUGACAAUGGCGGUUUCCGCAACAACCCCAAGCAGUUAAGCAAUGGGCAUUACCAUGUUUUCACCACCAAUGCCUGCAAGCGCGAUAAAAAGGUGAGUCACCGAGCGUACAGUGUAUCUGAGCCAGCACUCCCUAGAUAUCUCCACUGGUCGGAGUAGACCAUAUCAUGGAGCAGGGAGGAUCACCCGCCAAAAGUUGAGAAUCCCGACGACUUAGCGUUGGUCGUGGCCCCUCAAGUUGGAGGAUAUACCUUAUCGAAGGUACUGAUGGAUGGUGGUAGCAGCAUCAACAUAUUAUACUUCGACACCUUUCGAAGGAUGAACCUGUUGGAGAAAGAUUUGAUGCCCUCAACCACGGUAUUCCAUAGGAUUGUCCUAGGUAAAUCGGCAUAUCCCAUAGGCCGUGUUAGGCUCACAGUUGCGUUUGGAGCAGCGUCUAACUACAGGAGUGAGUCGCUUAUAUUUGAGGUGGUCAAGUUAAAAAGCCCCUAUCAUGCGCUCUUUGGGAGGCCGGCUUACGCCCGGUUCAUGCUCGCCCCUGCUAUGUUUACCUUAAACUCAAGAUGCCUAGUCCUAAAGGACCCAUCACGGUUGAUGGUGAUAGGAGGAUUGCAAGAGAGUGUGAAGAAGGGGAUACGGCUUACGCAGAAGUCGCCUGUGUUGCGGAAGAGCUUAAAUAUCACCAGGCCAAUGUUGAUCCGGCUGACAUGUCACCUCUAAAGAAGCCAACGACAGACGCUGAGCCGCCCCUCAAGUUCAAACCAACAGACGACACUAAGACAGUGGAUUUCGUCCCUGGUGACUCAACCAAGCAGUUCACUAUCGGGGCGGGUCUUGACCCCAAAUAGGAAAGCGCGCUCAUCGAAUUCAUCCAUGAGAAUCGGGACAUCUUCGGAUGGAAACCUUCUGACAUGCCUGGUGUGCCGAGAGAAUUCGCUGAGCACCAUCUUAAUGUUGACCCAAAAGCAAAACCGAUUCAGCAAUAUCUUCGCAGGUUCAAUGAGGAACGACGCAAGGCAAUCGGGGAAGAAGUUGCCCGUCUCUUGGCCACCGGAUUCAUCGUAGAGGUCUUCCACCCCAAGUGGUUGGAUAACCCGGUUCUGGUGCUCAAGAAGAACUGUACCUUCCGCAUGUGCAUUGAUUACACAGAUCUUAAUAGAGCUUAUCCAAAGGAUCCUUUCGCCCUUCCCCACAUCGAUCAAAUUAUUGAUUCGGUGGCGGGAUGCGAAUGUUUGUGCUUCCUGGACGCUUAUUACCGAUAUCACCAAAUCAAGAUGGUCGUGGAAGAUCAGGAGAAAACAGCUUUUAUAACCCCCUUCGAUGCUUUCUACUAUGUGUCCAUGCCAUUUGGACUCAAGAGUGCAGGGGCGACUUACCAGCGCUGCAUCCACAAUUGCCUCUGUGGCCAAAUCGGACGCAACGUUCAUGCUUACGUUGACGACAUUGUGGUUAAAACUCACAGGAAGGAAACACUACUGGGAGACCUAAAGGAUAAUCUGCGGGUAUACCAAUUGAAGCUUAAUCCCACCAAGUGUGUCUUUGCUGUUCCUGCAGGAAAAUUGUUGGGCUUCCUGGUAUCUGAGCGCGGCAUCAAAGCUAACCCGGACAAAAUCGAGGCGGUUACUUCCCUUGGGAAACCAGCGAAUGUUAAUCAAGUUCAACGAAUGGCGGGCCGUAUUUCGGCCUUAAGUCGCUUCAUAAUCCGUCUGGGUGAAAAGGCUAUUCCCCUUUAUCAAUUGCUUAAAAAAUCUGACCAUUUUGUUUGGACACACGACGCCAAUGAAGCUUUGGAAGCCUUAAAACAGCAGCUGGUCAACCCGCCGGUUUUGGCCGCCCGACUGAGAAAGAGCCUAUGCUUCUGUAUAUUGCGGCAAACUCCAAAGCGGUGAGUGUGGCAGUGGUCGUCGAAAGGAAGGAAGAAGGGAAGGAAUACCCAGUGCAACUCCCGGUGUAUUUCAUUAGCGAGGUGCUAACUCUCUCCAAGCAGCGAUACCCACACUGGCAGAAGUUAGUUUAUGGGGUCUUUAUGGCAAGCCGAAAGCUCAAACAUUAUUUCCAAGAGCAUCCCAUCACGAUGGUUAGCUCCGCUCCCCUCGGGGACAUCAUCCAUAAUUGGGAAGCGACAGGGCGAAUCGCCAAGUGGGCAAUCGAACUCGGGCCGCACCACGUGCGAUACACCCCUCGCACGGCUAUCAAAUCUCAGGCCUUGGUUGAUUUAAUCAACGAUUGGACCGAGUUACAGAUCCCGGAGGAUAGGCCUGACCUUACAUACUGGAAUAUUUAUUUUGACAGGUCUAGACAGUUGGAAGGCUCAGGGGCUGGUGUGGUGCUGAUAUCGCCUCAAGGAGACAAAUUCUGCUAUGUCCUCCGACUCAUGUUUCCAUGUACCAACAACGCUGCGGAAUACGAAGCUUUACUUCAUGGCUUGCGACUCGCCAAGGAGAUGAACCUUACGCGGGUCAGAUGUUUUGACGAUUCUGAUUUGGUGGCUCAGCAAGUUUCAGGUACUUGGGAUUCUCGGGACCCCCUGAUGGAGGCUUACAGGAGGGCUGUGUCUGAUGUGGCGGGUCACUUCCAUUAUUAUCAGGUCGAUCAUAUCGACCGGCGCCUUAACGAAGCAGCUGAUGGCCUUUCACGUCUCGGUUCGCAGCGCAAGCCGGUUCCCCCCAAUGUCUUUCUGGAUACUCUGCAUAAUCCUUCCGUAAGGUUACCCUCGGAGGAGGAGUUGACAAUACCAGACCCUGAGUCUCAGUUCGUGGCAGCUCUCCAUGUUACGCCGGAUUGGGUUCUUCCGUAUCUGGCCUAUCACGCCCGAGGCGAGUUACCUUUGGAUGAAGUAUUGGCUCGUCAAAUCGUUCGGCGAAGCAAAUCCAUGGUGAUCAUCAAUGGCGAAUUAUAUAAACGAAGCACUUCCGGGGUUUUCCAAAGAUGUGUCUCCUCUGAAGAAGGAUGUGUAAUUCUAAACGACAUUCAUUCCGGAGAUUGUGGACAUCACGCCGGGUCAUGUUCCUUGGUUUCAAAGGCGUUUCGUCAUGGUUUCUUCUGGUUGACGGCCCAUGCAGAUGCAGAAGAGAUUGUUCGUCGAUGUGACGGAUGCCAGCGUUAUGAACGACAGGACAAUGUGCCGGCUCAAGAGUUAAGGAUGAUACCUAUCACUUGGCCUAUUGCGGUCUAGGGGUUAGACAUGGUUGGCCCCUUUAAGAUGUCGUCCAACAAAAAAACUCAUCUGCUGGUGGCGGUUGAUAAGUUUACCAAGUGGGUCGAGGCAGAACCUGUUGGAUCCUGCGACGCGGAGACAGCGGUCAAAUUUUUGAAAAAGUUAAUCUUCUAGUUCGGAUAUCCACACAGCAUUAUUACUGACAAUGGCACUAAUAUGUCUCAAGGAGCGAUGCGGGAUUUUUGUCAUCGUGAGCAUAUCCGCCUUGAUGUUUCUGCAGUAGCUCAUCCGCAAUCUAAUGGGCAGGCCGAGCGGGCGAAUCAGGAAGUGUUGCGAGGAAUCAAACCCCGACUCAUGAUUCCCCUGGAACACACCCCGGGGUGUUGGGUUGAGGAGUUGCCUUCAGUACUAUGGAGCAUCCGGACCACCCCGAACCGUUCUACGGGUUUUACUCCUUUCUUUCUGGUAUAUGGAGCAGAAGCCGUUCUUCCCACUGACAUUAGGCAUGACUCGCCCAGAGUUGCCUCUUAUGUGUAAUAGGACAACGAGUUGGCGCGUCAAGAUUCUUUGGACGCUUUGGAGGAAGCACGCGAUUUGGCUGCAGCCCGUUCGGCGAUUUAUCAGCAGGACUUGCAGCGUUAUCACAGCCGCCGGGUCAAGAGCCGAAUCUUUCAGGAGGGCGACUUACUCCUUCGAUUGAUACAAGAUCGUACUGACAUGCAUAAGUUAUCACCACCAUGGGAAGGACCGUUCGUCGUCAGCAAAAGCCUUCGCAACGGGUCCUACUAUCUGGUGGAUCUAUGGCCUGAUCGGCCAACCACGGAGGCUGAGUCAACUCGCCCUGGAACAUAGCCCACUUGCGGCCUUAUUACACUUGAGCUAAUUAGCUCUGCCUUUUUUCAUUUCUUAUGAAGCAAUAAAGUUGAUGCCUCCAGGCUUGGGGGCUUUCCUGCUAAUUCAUCUUAUUGGAAGUAUGGAUCUUUAUUUUACUCUUCAAAAAGUCGCCCAAGCAUGGAUGCUAUCUAUACCAAAGGGCUUAAGUCGCCAUGAUGCGCUUAUUACAAAACUGGGUAUCGAUAAGCCAAAGAGGAUCGAAGUCGCUACAAGCGCGCGAUUCAAACAUAGGCGUUUUAUAUGAUUCUGUGGAUUAGGCCGGCUUACUUGAGGGCAGUUUGUUCUCAAGUCGUUUUGUGGUAAUAGCGUAUACGCUUCUACAAUCCUAUGACGGUCUUUCCCUUAAUCAUAGGUCACUUGGGGGCUUCCUCUCACUGAGAUCAGCCUUACUACCCAUUUGGCUUGCGAAAAAUUACCGCAUUACAAAUGGUUAUACUGGACUGUGUGCUUGGCCGAAUCGCCAUAUGGACCCAUGAACUCUUGGCGAGUUAAUCCGCUUAUGGACCCUGAAUAUGCCUUGGUUAAAACAUGUCUGGUACCGGCUAGCGCCUCACAUGGAAAAUAGAGAAACCACUGGUUCACUGAACCCGCUUCACUGAAGCUUGACUCGCGCCUGAUCAGCCGGUCUAAAUACUUGAGCUUUUUAUACAAAAGUCUACCUCGGGUAGCACUUGAGUUCAUUUAACUCAUCCUAUCCUAUCACGACCUGAUGAGCCGACGAAAUUGCAAUUUUUUACCUUCCUAGCACUGCCACAAGGUCUUUCUGACUUUUUUCUGACUCGCCACAAAUAUCUUGGGUCGGUUAUUAUUUAUUAUCAUCCAUUACUCACUGAGAUGAUUUGAUAUAUGUUUUUAAGCCUAACAGGUUGAUGAUCAAAAUCAUUCUAGCCAUGGCGGGUCAAGCAUCAUAAAAAUGUCUUGAGGGCGAGUCAAGCAUUCUAAGGCGCCUUAAGUGUGACAUAAGGGUUUUCAAGACAUCACAGAAGCAGUUUGAUCUCUAAAAAACUUAUUACAUGGCUCAUAUGGCCAAAUCUAUGAAGGAUUAUUCUACUGAUUUCCUCGGGUCAGCCUGCUGCGAGCUCUGGCCGACUUCAAUUUGCAAGUCGCCCAGUACCCAGUUACACUUGGAUAAUGCGGCGAACUCAUCUUCAUCGUUCAGCACUGAUGAAAGAUCCACCUCCAACUCAAAAGGAUUCUUGGGUCGACGCGGAGUUAAGCUGGUCGUUACAAAGGUUGGCGGGUUAAAUUUCUUGUUCUUGUUGUCAUAGGCGGCCUGGUAUUUUGAUAAAUCCAGGCUUGCGGCAAGCUGAGUCGCUGCCAAACGGGAUUCUUUGACAACACGCUGGUAAUCUUCUUUAGCAAAUUCUGACCCGUCAUCCUUGAGCUGGGGAAAGCCUGCCGCUACUUCUUCAGGGUUUAUUUCUGGAGCAUACGCCAGACACCGACUCAGCGUAGUGAGUGCUCCUUUCCGGGCAGCAGACCGAGUUAGCUCACCAAUUUGAGGAGGAAGAGUAGAUAAGCAGCCAAGCAUCUUCUUUAUUGAUGUUAUGGGUUCCUUGGCACCCAUCACUGCUUUCACGGUCAGCACACUUCCGGUAUACAGCUUCUCCGUCAACGUGUAAAUCGCCUUCAGCAUUAGGACGCAAUCGUUCUGAAGAUUGACGGCUCUUGGACCUGCAUAAGGAGUAAUGAUGGUCAGCGAUUUCUACAAGUUAUUUAUUUACGAAGUGCAAGGUUAGGGUUUCGUUUUAACCAAAGACGGCUUGGGCCAUGUUGGAGAUAUGUCGCUUUAAGGCGGCUAGCUCUUGUUGCAUAGUAUCCAACUUUGCUUCAGCUUUUUCUGCUCGCUUUAUCAGGGCAUCUUGAUCAGCUUGAGGAUUUUUUAUGUCGGCUUUUAGCUUCUCCUUCUCAGACAAGAUCAGUUGACACUUCUCUUCUGAUUUUGCCCGGGCAUCCUGCUGAUCGGUUAAAUUUUUCUUCAAGUCGCCAAAUGCUGAUUCAGCUUGGGUAAGUAAUUCCUGUUGAAAUAUAUAGUCAAGGGGCGAGUCUUAGAAUUAUUGCAAGCAACAUCCCUGACACUUGGGGGCUAAUGUAUAAUUUUUUAGACAAAUUAUACAGUAUCAAGACCCGACUCAUCUUUUUACAAAUGACUCAGCCCUUGGGGGUUACAGGUCGAAUGUUUUCUUCAAUUAUCAAGACCCGGCUCAUAUUUUUACAGAUGACCCGGCCCUUGGGGGUUACAGGUCGAAAGAUUUUCUUCAAAAUUAUCAAGACCCGGCUCAUCCUUUUACAGAUGACCCGACCCUUGGGGUUACAGGUCGACAGAUUCAUUUUACUAUUAAGACCCGGCUCAUCUUUUUACUGAUGACCCGGCCCUUGGGGGUUAAUAAGGACAAUACAGUAUGCAAUAAGACGUUCCUCAUGUUUGUUCUUCAGCAUAAGAAACAGACUUUUUUCCAUCUCAUAACUCGCCUCCAGGCGACUUGCAAAGCCCGAGCAAAGUUCUCUGAAUUCAAGAUUUUCAUAGUGGGAGAGCUUAGCCUUGGAAAGUUCAUACUCAAUAGCAGGUUGAGCUGAUGAUGAUACAUGCUUCGACAAAACUGUUGUGGCCGGCUUAGAAAAGCGAGUGCCGGUGAUAACCACAUCGUCUGGGUCUUCUGCUGUUUUCAAUGGACUUGGCGGAUUAGGCGUUUCCAUGGUUUCCUUGGGCGAGCUUGGGAGAUCCACUUGAUCCUCGGGUUUAUCUUGGGCCGGGUUAUCCUGGAUCGGCGCCGAUUUUUCAACAGGCUCUGAAGCUGUAAUGGGAGUUGACCCGCAAGUUUUCCUUUUCUUCGCAUGUGCCCUAAAAGGAAAAGUGGGUGCACUUAAAGAAACAGACAUUACCAUCAUCAGAACAAGGUAGGUGUUAUAAAAGACUUACCCUGGGACGCGGAUCAUCGGUGGAAGUGCUGACAUCACUGAGUCGCCGGAUGAAGGAGGAGAACUCUGCAAAAAUAACACUUCAAGAUGUGAGCGAGUUAUUAACGCGAUCCAAAAGGAAAUGAAGAGGUGCUAUUAAAAGAUACCUCAUUGUGCCUUUUCUUGGUUUUUGUUGGUAACCCGGACACCAAAUUUCUAGAAUGACUCCGAGUUUUCCAAUUUGAAGCAUGUUGCGCUUUCUUCAAAAGGAAAUUUGGAUCCAAACAAGCAUUUGGGUGUGAGAAGGGAACUUCCCAACAAAUUCGCCUGGCCGGCUUAGGUGGAGGAGAAGAUGAGUCGGAGGAAACAGAAAUUACCUCUACGGAGUCUUCCUGGCUUUCAUUGUCCUCAUUCUACACAAGAGAUACAGAGGCGUAAACACAAAACUAUCAACAAUGAAUGGCGAGUUAAAGAGGAUGGAUUUUUACCUCUGAAAGUACGUUGCCCACUUGGGAUUCAUCGACUUCAGAUGGCUCAGUGACGGCGGUUUGGCCUUGCCCUUGGACUUCUUCUUUGGAGGCGGCUUGGCUUGCUUCAAGGCCAUCUUUUUUGGCCUCCUGGACCAGAAUUUGUCACCUUUCUGAAAUGGCAUUUUUUAUUAUAGGAGGUCAUAGCUCAAGUAAGACGGAAGGAAUAAAGCAAAAGUGGGUUAAGUUAUUUACCUUUGGUGCCGGGUUGAUCUUGCAGAACGGCUUAAGACCUAUUUGGCCGCACUUGGCCAUGAGUUCGCCGGUCAAUUUCUUGAUGAUGGUUACAAUAUCAUUUUCUGUCAGUGCUGUGUGGAAGUAGCACUGGGAGUGAUCCAGGGUACCAUCAAAAUCACACAUUAAUCCGUCCCAGCGACUUAAGGGAAGGAUACGCCAUUCGACCCAGCAGCAGAUUAAGUCAACCCCAGUAAGGCCAUUGUUUGUCAGAGAUCUUAACUCGGACAGUACUGGGAUAAAAUCUGACUCCUCUUCUUCGGUGAGCUUGUCUGGGAGUUUUAAAUUUGUUGGAAGGCAAUCCUCCCUAUAGCCAAGAAGCUUGUUCUCGCCCUCAGGCGAAGUCUCCUGGCAGUAAAACCAAGACUCAGUCCAGCCUUUGGGAUGGCUUGGCAUGGCGAGUGACGGGAAUGAACUAUCCCUACGGUGUUGAACAUUGACACCUCCAAGCUCCAAGCUAGGGCCAUUGGAAAAUUCUGUCUAGCGAUUCAAAUGGAAGAAGUACCAGAAUAAAGGAACUGAGGGUUCCAUCCGCAAGUAGGCCUCACAGAACACGUGGAACUGGCAUAAAUUGCUUAUCGAGUUGGGCCCUAAGUCCUGGAGGCGGACAUUCAUAAAGGUCAUGGCAUCCCUGAGGAAUUUUGAUUUGGGCGGCUUAAAACACCGUUCAAGGUGUUCAACAAAAACAACUAUCUCCCCUUCCUUUGAGUUGGGGAUUUCCUCUCCUAACCCAGAACGCCAACUGAUAACCUCUUGAGGGUCCAGAAUCCCCGUUUUCACACAGUUGUUAAGGAGAGUAUCAUCAACCUUGGUCGGGAGCCAAUCACAUUUGAAAAUGGUGCCCAGGCUACAAAGGGACAAAUUUACGGGUAAAUUAACACGCCAAGCAUCUACUAAAUGGUGAAACAGAUUCAUUUGACUCGCCAAACAGUUUGCGUGAUAACUGAGGGAGUUUUUUGACUCGCCGAUAAAGGUCCGGGUCAGGAUACCAGGGCGACUUAUGUAAUUCUUACUACUUAAAGGAAAGAUGGUUCAAAGCUUCAGUAGUGUCCGCCAAAAUUGUGAAGUAUGAAUCCAUAAACAGGUUUCAUGCGACGAGCAGUAAGACAGAAAUGAAUGCGAAAAGGUCUGGGUAAAACGGCCUAUGACCAAGAUGAAAACAGUACAGUUGAUCUGGUGAAAACCUUUCUAAGUCUGCAAAUCAAGGCUAAGCAACAAAGGGUAUGGAAAAUGUUGAUGUACUCACUAUCGUCACCACCAACUAGCCAGGAAUUACAAAGCUAUUCGAGAUGUUUUAAAGAAAUAGUGGACAUGAACCUCGAGAAGCUUAGAUCUGCCUUCAAUGGCGGGAGGCUGACCUGGUAAAUGCAGCUGGAGGCGUCCGAAGAAAGAUUCGCGGUGAGCGUCGCACGUUCGGCAACUCCCGGACGGCGGCGAAGAUCUCGGACGAUGACGAAGAUCUCGGACGGCGACGAGGUUCUCGAAACGGCGGCGAGGCUCUCGGGCGACGACGAAGUGCUCGGACAACGGCUGAGCUUUCGGGCGGCGACGAAGUGCUCGGGUGGCGACGAAGCUCUCGGGUGGCGACGAGGCUCUCGGUGCGACGGCGAGGAAGAAGAGGGUGACAAGAUGGGUAGGUGGAAAUGUGCCCUGUCCCCUCCUCCCUCCUAGUUAUCAGGUCAGGCGCUGGGAUCGAGGCGCCACGAGUGGGAACUGCCAAAAAAGAUAAAGAUUCGCCAUGAUGGCGCCCCAAAAUUUUCGGGAUAGCAAUACCGAAGGAUCCGUUGGAGAUUACGUCAUCAUCUCUUCCGAGGUUAAAGGGAUAAGAAGGCGCCAACAAGAAGUGGUUCGGCGACUUGAGUUUUUCCGCAACAGAUGGCGGUUUAAGUGCAUGGUUCGUAAAAGGAUUGAGAUGAAUCGCCCCUAACUGGGUGAGAAUAUUGGCGUGAAAAAAUUCAAGUCAAUCUGGGGCCUAAUGUUGGGGAUAUUAUCUGUUGGGUAACCCGCCCUAGUUGGGCCGGGUCACCCAAGCUGGCGACUCAUCUCCAAGUGGUUCCAGCCUUGGCCCAGCAGGGCCGGGAGUCGUAUGACAGUUCAGGACCUUCAGGGAAGUCCAUUGUAGGGAAGAUCUCCAAGUCUUGGAAAGAUGGGGACUUAGAGAUCAGAAGAAUCACGAUUUAUGUAAAGAAAAGGACUCUUGUAAACCCUAAGGACUUGACCUGUAUAUGAAGGCGAGUCCCAGGGAAGGAGAGGGGAGGUUAGAAAUCAUCGAGUGCUAGGUCAGGCGAGUUACGCCCCCUUGUAAUCGAAACACCAUCAAUACAAACACCAAACAGGACGUAGGCCUUUACCUCCUAACGAGGGGCCGAACCUGGGUAAAUCUCUGCCUCGCUCCCGCAUAACCCCUUUGAGUUGCCACCAAGAUGCGAUGGCUCCAACACUAAGUACUUUCACGAGGACAUCUGCCGUGACAAAACAACGACACCUUCCACCAGCCCAGUCGCAUGGGCUUAGGUGGGGAGGGGCGCCCAGCCCACCAGGCGCUGGUAUGCACUCUUCUCAGCCCAUGUGGCCCCUCCGGGGCAGGUCGGACCCUUUCAACACUCCUGGUACUCUGAGGUAAUGCCCGAACUUUCCGGUGACCAAAAUGGAACUUCCUGUAUAUGAAUAUUUACCUCCUACCAUUUUGAAGAUCCUCGUCAUGUACGGGAUCUUAUCUUGGACUCUGAAAAACAUUUGGUUAUCAACAUACAUAAGUCAACAAUACUAUAUCGUCAUCGAAGAUUAAGCAUGCGGACCCUACGGGUUUGAGAACUAUGUAGACAUGAUCGAGACACCUCUACAGUUAGUAACCAAUAGAGGGACUUUGAUGCCCGUAUUAGUUCCUACAUAUUCCAUGAAUAACUUUAUCGUUCAAACCACGAUGCCAAGGAUUCAAUCCAUCCCGUAUGGAGUUCCCUUUGUCGAGCGGAAUGUUACUUGCCCGAGAAUCGAUCGUCGAAACCUUCAUACCUAGUUAAAUCUUGUUACCGAGAAGUCUCUUUACUCGUUCCGUAAUACAAGAUUCCAUGCCUAAUUCCUUAGUAACAUCCCAGAGAUACCUCUAUGUCAUACGGAGUGAAAAAUCCCGGUCUUGAUCCAUGCUAACCCAACAAAGACGCUUGGAGAUACCUCUGGAGGAUCGUUAUAAUCACCCAGUUACGAAUUGAUGUUUAAUAGGCACAAGGCAUUCCUCCGGUUUUAUGGAGUUGCAUGAUCUCAUUGUAUUAGGAAUAGGUACUUGAUGAUACGAUCAAAUGAUAUGCUUACGCUUGGGUCUUGUCCAUCAUAACAUUCUCCUAAUGAUGUGAUCUCGUUAUCAAAUGCCAACUCAUGUCUAUGGUUAGGAAAUCUUAAUCAUCUUUGAUCAAUGAGCUAGUGUAGUAGAGGCGUACUAGUGACACAGUGUUGUCUAUGCAUCCACACAUGUAUCUGAGUUUCAAAUAAAUACAGUUAUAACAUGGAUAAUAAAUGAUUAUCAUGAACAAGGGAAUAUGAUAAUAACUACUUUACAAUUGCCUGUAGAGCAUGUUUUCAAGAGUCUCCCACUUGCACUAGAGUCAAUAAUGUUGGAAAUAUGCCCUAGAGGCAAAAACAAAUUAGUUAUUACCAUAUUUCCUUGUUUAUGAUAAUCAUUUAUUAUCCAUGCUAUAAUUGUAUUGAUUGGAAACUCAAAUACAUGUGUGGGUACAUAGACAAUAAAGUGUCCCUAGUAUGCCUCUGUUGGACUAGCUCGUUGAUCAAAGAUAGUUAAGGUUUCCUAGCCAUACACAUGAGUUGUCAUUUCAUAAAGGGAUCGCAUCAUUAGGAGAAUGAUAUGAUGGACAAGACCCAAACCUUAAGAAUAGUGUUCGAUCGUAUCCAGAUUACUGCUAUUCACUACAGGAAUCACCUUCUUUGCCGUCCGUCAUAACAGACGGCAAAGAGGACCCCACCGACGGCAAAUCUCUUUGUCGUCAGCUUACUGUCGGCAAAGAUUCUGCGUCAGCUUACGACGGCAUUGUACCUUCUUUGUUGUAGGCCUUCCCUAAGCGGACGACAAAGCUCUUUGCCGUCAGUAUCUGGCAUCGAGUAGUCGGCAAAGAAUUUGAGAUGGCAGCCGACAGGAGACGCCUCCGUUAUGGCUAACGGAGGCUUUGCCGUCUACUUGCCCCUAGUCUUUGCCGUCUGCUUCCCCCUAGUCUUUGCUAUCUGCUUCCCCCAUAACAGCCCAACAGUUUUUCUUCUCUUUGCCAUCAGCCUCCCCGGGCAGCAGACGGCAAAGAAGCUACAUAGCAGCUGCCCUCGAGGGUGCAUAGCCUGGUGCCAUGUGGCACCUUUGCCGUCGGCCAGCUGAUGGCAAAGCUCUUUGCCAUCAGCUGGCAGACAGCAAAGAGUCCAUAUAGUUUCUAUUUUGUUUGGUUUUAUUAUUUCAUAAUAUAUAUAUAUAGUAGUGGCGCACCGAGACUGUGGUGCGCCAUUAGUANCUGUUCAUCCAUAGAUACAUAUACAUAUAGUUCGACAUUGUUCAUCAACUCAAAUUAAAACUAGAACUAAUAAGGCACUCCAUGAAUGCCAGCUUCCAUGCAUGUAGUACAUCCAAUCUGCAGAAAUGUGAAUAAGAAAGUCAGAAGAAGAACAACAUAUGAUAUUUUAGAGGAAAACAAGCUAAGAAUAUAAUAUUCAUUAGCUAACCAAGGUUCUAAUGCCAUUUUGAGCUUAUUAUGUCAUUUUGGAGCUAAAUGGGCUAAUUAUAUAUGUCAUUGUUGGGGAAAAUAAGGUAAGGAGAAUAAGAAAGAGGNNNNNNNNNNNNNNNNNNNNNNNNNNNNNNNNNNNNNNNNNNNNNNNNNNNNNNNNNNNNNNNNNNNNNNNNNNNNNNNNNNNNNNNNNNNNNNNNNNNNNNNNNNNNNNNNNNNNNNNNNNNNNNNNNNNNNNNNNNNNNNNNNNNNNNNNNNNNNNNNNNNNNNNNNNNNNNNNNNNNNNNNNNNNNNNNNNNNNNNNNNNNNNNNNNNNNNNNNNNNNNNNNNNNNNNNNNNNNNNNNNNNNNNNNNNNNNNNNNNNNNNNNNNNNNNNNNNNNNNNNNNNNNNNNNNNNNNNNNNNNNNNNNNNNNNNNNNNNNNNNNNNNNNNNNNNNNNNNNNNNNNNNNNNNNNNNNNNNNNNNNNNNNNNNNNNNNNNNNNNNNNNNNNNNNNNNNNNNNNNNNNNNNNNNNNNNNNNNNNNNNNNNNNNNNNNNNNNNNNNNNNNNNNNNNNNNNNNNNNNNNNNNNNNNNNNNNNNNNNNNNNNNNNNNNNNNNNNNNNNNNNNNNNNNNNNNNNNNNNNNNNNNNNNNNNNNNNNNNNNNNNNNNNNNNNNNNNNNNNNNNNNNNNNNNNNNNNNNNNNNNNNNNNNNNNNNNNNNNNNNNNNNNNNNNNNNNNNNNNNNNNNNNNNNNNNNNNNNNNNNNNNNNNNNNNNNNNNNNNNNNNNNNNNNNNNNNNNNNNNNNNNNNNNNNNNNNNNNNNNNNNNNNNNNNNNNNNNNNNNNNNNNNNNNNNNNNNNNNNNNNNNNNNNNNNNNNNNNNNNNNNNNNNNNNNNNNNNNNNNNNNNNNNNNNNNNNNNNNNNNNNNNNNNNNNNNNNNNNNNNNNNNNNNNNNNNNNNNNNNNNNNNNNNNNNNNNNNNNNNNNNNNNNNNNNNNNNNNNNNNNNNNNNNNNNNNNNNNNNNNNNNNNNNNNNNNNNNNNNNNNNNNNNNNNNNNNNNNNNNNNNNNNNNNNNNNNNNNNNNNNNNNNNNNNNNNNNNNNNNNNNNNNNNNNNNNNNNNNNNNNNNNNNNNNNNNNNNNNNNNNNNNNNNNNNNNNNNNNNNNNNNNNNNNNNNNNNNNNNNNNNNNNNNNNNNNNNNNNNNNNNNNNNNNNNNNNNNNNNNNNNNNNNNNNNNNNNNNNNNNNNNNNNNNNNNNNNNNNNNNNNNNNNNNNNNNNNNNNNNNNNNNNNNNNNNNNNNNNNNNNNNNNNNNNNNNNNNNNNNNNNNNNNNNNNNNNNNNNNNNNNNNNNNNNNNNNNNNNNNNNNNNNNNNNNNNNNNNNNNNNNNNNNNNNNNNNNNNNNNNNNNNNNNNNNNNNNNNNNNNNNNNNNNNNNNNNNNNNNNNNNNNNNNNNNNNNNNNNNNNNNNNNNNNNNNNNNNNNNNNNNNNNNNNNNNNNNNNNNNNNNNNNNNNNNNNNNNNNNNNNNNNNNNNNNNNNNNNNNNNNNNNNNNNNNNNNNNNNNNNNNNNNNNNNNNNNNNNNNNNNNNNNNNNNNNNNNNNNNNNNNNNNNNNNNNNNNNNNNNNNNNNNNNNNNNNNNNNNNNNNNNNNNNNNNNNNNNNNNNNNNNNNNNNNNNNNNNNNNNNNNNNNNNNNNNNNNNNNNNNNNNNNNNNNNNNNNNNNNNNNNNNNNNNNNNNNNNNNNNNNNNNNNNNNNNNNNNNNNNNNNNNNNNNNNNNNNNNNNNNNNNNNNNNNNNNNNNNNNNNNNNNNNNNNNNNNNNNNNNNNNNNNNNNNNNNNNNNNNNNNNNNNNNNNNNNNNNNNNNNNNNNNNNNNNNNNNNNNNNNNNNNNNNNNNNNNNNNNNNNNNNNNNNNNNNNNNNNNNNNNNNNNNNNNNNNNNNNNNNNNNNNNNNNNNNNNNNNNNNNNNNNNNNNNNNNNNNNNNNNNNNNNNNNNNNNNNNNNNNNNNNNNNNNNNNNNNNNNNNNNNNNNNNNNNNNNNNNNNNNNNNNNNNNNNNNNNNNNNNNNNNNNNNNNNNNNNNNNNNNNNNNNNNNNNNNNNNNNNNNNNNNNNNNNNNNNNNNNNNNNNNNNNNNNNNNNNNNNNNGGGCCAGGGGUGUUGGGGCGGCGGGCCAACGCCGGGGGUGUUGGGGCUGUAGGGUGUCGACGAGGGCGGUGGGGCAGCGACAGCGGGGCUGUGGGGCACCAGGGCGGCGGCGGGAUGGUGUUGGCGGCGGUGGGCGUCGAGGAGAGGAGUGGAAGAGAGUGGAGCGGCUACACCGAGGGUGAGAAAGAGAGGGGCAGGGUGGGGGCAAAGAGCCGUUACGGAGUUAGCUCUUUGUCGUCUGCCGGUGGAUGGCAAAGAGUCUAGACUCUUUGUCGUCUGCCUCCGGCCUCUUUUCGUCCGCUUGCACACGAAAAAGAAGGGACUCCAGUUUGACCUAACGUCCUCGCGGUCAGGUUGGCAUGUCCGUCUGCUUUGUCGUCUGCUUUAUGGAUCUUUGCCAUCCGUGGCUGACGGCAAAGAUGUGACUGAUGGCAAAGACCAUCUAUGCCAUCAGUCAUUUCUUUGCCGUCCGCUUUGUGGCAGCUGACAGCAAAGACACUCUUUGUCGUCCGUUCGCUGAUGGCAAAGAUUUGGCAGAUGGCAAAAAACUGAAUUCCAGUGGUGAUUGCUUUUUUACAUGUCAAUGUAUCUGUUCCUAGGACCAUGAGAUCCUGCAACUCACUAACACCGGAGGAAAGCCUUGUGUGUAUCCUACGUCGCAAUGUAACUCGGUGACUAUAAAGAUGAUCUACUUUUAUCUUCGAGGGUGUGUGUGGAGUUGGCAUGGAUCAAGACUGGGAUUUGUCACUCCAUGUGACGGAGAUGUAUAUCGGGGCUCACUUGAUAAUACAACAUCAAAAUAAGAUUUCAAGAAAUGUGUAUAAGGAGUUAGUUACAUGAUCUUGUAUUACGGAACGAGUAAAGAGACUUGCCGGUAAUGAGAUUGAACUAGGUAUGGAGAUACCGACGAUCGAAUCUCGAGCAAGUAACAUACCGAUGGACAAAGGAAACUACAUACGGGAUUAGCUAAAUCCUUGACAUCGUUGGUUCAACCAAUAAAUAUAUUCAUAGAAUAUGUAGGAACCAAUAUGGGCAUCCACAUCACACUAUUUGUUAUUGACCGUAAAGGUGUCUCGGUCACGUCUGCUUAGUUCUCGAACCCCGAAGGUCUGCCCACUUAACAUCAAGUGACGAUAUAGACAUAGUUGAGUUAUAGUGUUCGUCACCCAAGGUUGUUUGGACUCCCGGAUGAGAUUCCAGACAUCACGAGGAGCUUUGUAAUGGUAUGGAGGUAAAGAUUUAUAUAUAGGAAAGUGGUAUUCGGGUUCCGGAAGGGUGUUUUUGGUAUUGUACAAGGAGUGCCGAAAGGGUUUCGGGGGUCCACCGGGAGGGGCCCGCCCACCCCUGGGGGCACAUGGGAUUAAUAGGUCGUGCCCCAACACCUGGUGGGCUCUGAAGAUGACCCCUAUAGGGCCCAUGCACCCAAUGUGGAGGAGGAGUACUCGCUAGGGUGUACACUACCUUGUUGGAGGUGGACUCUUCCCCUCUUUGGUCGGCUAGCCCUCCUUGGAGGAGCACUACUAGGAAAAGGCUUGCUAAUGGCGCACCAUUUUUUGCUACUAAUGGCGCACUAUAGGUGCGCCACUAGCAUCACGCCAUUAGAUUUUUUUUACUAAUGGCGCACUACAAGUGCGCCAUUAGUAUCUGGUAUACUAAUGGCGCACCAGGUAGUGCGCCCUUAGUAUUGCUCACGGUGCGCCAUUAGUAUCUGGUAUACUAAUGGCGCACCAGGUAUUGUGCCAUUAGUAUAUAUCCUGGUGCGUCAUUAGUAUAGAUCCCGGUGCGCCAUUAGUAUAUAUCCUGGUGCGCCAUUAGUAUAGCUUAUGGUGCGCCAUUAGUAUGCCUCCCAGGGCCAUAUUUACCCAUAUGCUCUGACUUACUAAUGGCGCACUAGUGUGCUGAGUGAUGCGCCACUAGUAUGAAUAUUAGGUAUUUAUUUAAUUUUUUGUGAUAUUUGCACAUAUUACAAAAUAUAUUAUUGCACAGAAUAUAGAUAGCCCAACAUAUAAACAACAGAUUUAUCAAAUACAAUAGAAGAUUAGUCUCCGAAUACAAUUCAUCAUAUUAGUCUCCGAAUAGAAUUCAUCAUAUUAGUCUCCGAAUAGAAUUCAUCAAUAAUGCUAGAACAGGGUACUAUACAAACACUCUUAUAUUUCUUCCAUAGCGAGAGACAAAUGAGACAACAAACAACGAGCGAGCAGGCCAGAGACAAUUUGGCAUGAUAUGCAACCUGAGAGCGACAAAAACAAAGCAUGGAUUCCAGUGGUGAACUAUGAGAUGCAGCUCGUCAGGAAGGGCCGAAGGGCUCGGAGAUGCUUUUGCUCCUGCUACCGCAAGCUUCCGGUCCUCUAUGGGAGGCUGAGGCACCGCACCAAGGGCCAACAAUAAGACGCAUGUGGAGCCCAUGACAACCUUCAUGGGUACAUACAAGAAACUGAGUUACAUCAGUUUUAAGCCAACAACACAACAAGCAAAUAAUUGAGAGCUUACAGUAGGCAAGUAAGGUGUACACAAAAGGAACUGAAGUUGUGUUGAUAAAAUAACUUAAGACGCCCAAACAUAUGGAAAAGCAUUGAUAACUAACAACUCCUGUGCAUUCUUGUACAUUUGAUAGUUAACUUAAAAUAAUUUAUCAUUGCCGGAAAAGACACAAAUAAUCUCUAUGAAGAAAAGUGCACAUUGCCGGCGUAGGUAAAUAAAUCAUGCAUCCUCUCUUGGAGGAGACCCACUAAACAAGGAGCUCGAACAUGAAACAAAUGCCAAUAGAAAUGUAAGGUAGCCAACAAUUACGAACAUAGCAUGUUGGCUGCUAUGUUGCCGCAACAAAUAUUUGGAAGGUUGUUGCUGCUGCGAAAUGCUAGAAUUAAGAGCUUGACCUGCAGGUGGCUCAAACUAUUGAUGUAUUUGUGGAUGCAGUGUCUUCCUUUGUGAAUUCAAGAUGGCGAUAAUCUGUCUCUCGUACUGGGGAACUCUGUCCCUCAUGGAGGGCUGGAUAGCACUCUUGCUAAUUUGCAGCAUUUGCAAUAUAUGGUCCAACAUUAUUUUAAAGCUCUUGAUCCUAUCGUACUUGUCAGAUGGCAUACUACAAGAAAAGCUACAUGUAGAGGUCUGGUUAGAGGCAUCUCCAUGAGCUGUCUUUACCUUCAGAUAUUUAUAAAAAUUGUUACCGCAUACAAUCUAGCCUCAAAAUAAGAUAGCAAAAAAUGCUACAUAUCAGACAUACCUAAUAACAAGCUUUGUAUGUGUGUGCGUGUGAGAGAGUGUGUAUUUUGAAACAAAGAGAACUUUCAUGCCCGUAGUGCAUACCUGCCAUUUAAUGCUUUUACAACCGGUGAGAAGCUCUUUUGUCGGAUGAACUCUCCCGUGUUUGAACCAACUUGCUGCCACCAAUAGAUAUAGUAGUCUGCAGCUUACCAAUCUGCGAAAUAAAGAUGAUAUUUAUCCUCAGGACCACUGGAAGAACACAGAUACAUGCAGUUUAAUGAUGCACUCAAGCUAUGGGAGUAAAGCAACACAUACGUAUGUGUUUUAUCCUAGGGGUUAACAAAAAAGGACGCAUGAAGCAUGUGUUCCUGAAACUAUAAGAGCCUUGGCAAUACGCAUACAGUAAAUAUUGAACUCUUCAGCUAUCCAGUCUAAAAGGCCACUACAAAAUGAACCGUGUAUAACAGCUACUAAGUUCUGCAUCAGGACUAAGCAAACAGGAGCCUAAUGGCCUUAGAAUACCACACAAAGAGGAGCAGUUACAGAGGUGUGCACUUAGCAGAUAUACGAAAAAACAUUCUUAAAAUACAAAUUUGCACAUUUAUGUGCAAUAUCCCCAUGGAACAGAGUUGGUACUAAGCAAACUAGCAACCAAUAACUUGAAAACCUGCCCUGGACGGUCUUACUCCCUCGAAUAACCCCCAUGCCACAAGCAUGGUAGACAUGCAGUGUUUAAAUUGGGUAGAAUUUUUUCUCAUAAGCAUACUUAAAUCCCACACAUAAAUACCUACGCAUAUAUUAUAUGCCCCCAUACAACAUAACCAAAACAGCCGUGGUUCAAACCCACGUGCCCAAAGCAAGGGGAAGAAGAGAAGGUGAGAGAUCUCACCUCUAAUGUCUGUAGCGGUCGGUGAUGGUGGUGAGCUAGACGAAGACAACGAGACUGAGCCGAACCUACACGACCUGAACAACACAAAUAGUUGAGUGACGCUAUUGACAUUUAAAAUAUCGCUCCCACUAAUAACAGUAUAGCCUCAACGCAUGCAAGUUGUAAAGAUUUAACCUUUCAUCAAUAAAUGAACUAAGCAAUGAACAGCAGUGUGGAGUUACAAUUCAUUCUACUUCAUGAGAAGCAAACAAAUCCCCCAAAAUGACAAGUUAUAAUCACGCAACUGUAAUUAAGCAUCAGAUUAUUGACAAUGGAAUUAGGAUAUUAAGCAGCAAGUUGAUUUUUUUCUCUAGUGAAGAAUGAGAAAUCUGCUCCUAAACAAAAUACCAUGCCAAGUAAUUUACUUCACAGAUUAUUGCCAUGUCAGGGAGCUUAUGUUGCAGGCUGAGGUCGUCGUCGCAUGCCGCCGCCUUGGGCUCGAAGUUGCUCAAUGACUCCUCCAUGCUGCAGUCGACCGCCGCCUUGACUUAGGCCCUGACCAUCCACCGAAGCACACAGCAGAGGGCAGGAAAUCAUGAGCAAUACAACAUAUAAAAGCAUGAAUGGCACAAAAACAGAAUGAGGAUCUAUUAUAUCAAGUAAUCCAAGCAACCAAAUAUUCCACCAUGGAAAAAAUAAAGGGACGAUGCUAGUGAUGUUGCUAGACUUGGGGUUGGGCAUGAAUAAAUGACAUGCCAUAAAAAAACAACAAGAGCAAAGUGAGUGCACAAGCUAUGAAGUGGCUACAGUGAAGAUGACCCAGAGUGCGUGUUGUUUUCAGUAGAGUUGGACCCGUUAUUAAAAGGAAAAAUGAGAUAAAUAAGAAACCCCGUGACCGGAACCUUAAAUAGACCAGGCUAUGGUUAACAACAUCAACAGAGAGGGAAACAAACCUGAAUCCGGCUAGCAGAGACGUCACCGGAUGUUUGCCUGCUCCUCCACCUGCUCUGGCUCAUUCUCCUCUGACCUGCACACGCCCACGCAUCAGAGGAAGAAGAAGAAAAGGUAAGGAGGGAUACAUACCGAGGCUCUUGAGGGGAUCCUGCGGAUCUGACCUACAACGCCAUGCGUGGUGCUGUGUGGCUAGGGUUUCGGGCGGCGGCAGGGGUGGAAAGAGGAGGACUCCUCCUUUGCUGGUGCUUCGUAGUGGAGAGGGAAGGAGAUCUAGCUGAGCCGGCGGCGGUCCUCUGCUGGUCGCCGCAGCCCGAGCACGAUGGCUCCUCCACAGCGACCGGAGAGGGGGCGAGCAGCUGCUUGUUGGGGAGGAAGAACGCGGGCGCGGGAGGCACCGUUGUCAUCGCCGAAAGUAAUGACGAGGGAGGCGGCGCGGCGGCCGUUGGGUUGAGAUCGACUACGAGGAAGAGGAAGGGGGCGGCGCGGCGGCCUCCUUGGAAUAGAGAGGGGCACGAGGUGGGGGCGAGGCAGCGCACGGUGUGCUCGAUUUGGAGGCGGGGCGGCGCGCGCUCGAUUUGGGGGCCAAAACAGAGCGCCCGCGCUGCUCGGUUUGGAGGUGAAAACACAGCGUGCGCACGUGAUUUUGAAGAUCCCGUACGCUGCGUGCGGGCGAAAACAGAGCGCCCGUGCCGCGCGUAUUUUUUUGUAUCUCCCUAUUAUUUUAUUUUAUUGUACAUAUAAUAAGUAUCUUGUAAGAAGACUGCCAGAAUGUAGUGUAUCUGCACACUUAUUGUUUAAAAUUAUGGUUUCAAUUACAGAAAAGGAAUUUGUUGGAACACAGACCAAAAAGAAUAAGAGAUGGGCAACAUGAAGUGCAAAAGUAAAAGGGCAAUCUUGUUUCAGCUUCUAACUACCUAGAUGAGGGCAAUCUCAACCAUGUUGUUCUAGGGGGGCACUGUAUAUGAAUUUUAGGAAGUUCUAUGAAGAAAAGACACAAAAAAUGUCCGUGCAUUGUAUAUUCAAAGUACGCAUGCGAAAUAGUUGGAUGGUUGUGAGUGAUGAUGAUCAAACUCGUAAUCUGAAUUGUGUCGUUUUGUCUAAUCACACAAUUGUGCUAUGCGGCUGUGCCAUUUGUUUAGCGAGAAGAGUUGGACAACAAGGGACAUCGGGACAAGGGUGCCUUUGAAUUCUGAGUUCUACCAAUUUAUAAAUUCAUUUCUCCAUUUCUCCUUGCAUUAUCCCCCCCCUCAUUUUGAAGGUUUGUCCUCACUUUCUACUUUUUUUCCUGAUCACGCAAAAAUGUGAUAUGGCUUGCACGGACGACGGUCAAGGCCCUGCGCUCCCCGCCCCGCCAACCACCACCACACAUCGCCAAGCGGGACCCUCGCCGGUCAACUGGAGACGUGGGGGAGGGAGGGCGGAAAGAGCGAGAGAAAUCCAGGGCGUGGACGAGCGGGAUCUCUCCGGGGCGUGGACGAGCGAGGCGGGAUCUCGGUUGGAUUUAGGAGAGGAGAGGCGAGGGUAGAGGUAGAGAGCAGUGCGGGUUAGCAAUGGCGCACCCCCGAGCGGUGCGCCAUUAGAUUUUUUUUUGAUAGCAAUGGCGCAUCCCCAUGCAGUGCGCCAUUAGUAAUCUUAUUUUUAUAUAGCAAUGGCGCAUCCCAGAGAGGUGCGGCAUCAGUAAUCUUUUUUUUGGAUACCAAUGGCACACCCCAGAGAGGUGCACCAUUAGUAAUAUAUUUUUUGGAUAGCAAUGGCGCUCGGAGGGAGGGAGGGGGUGGGUGGUGCGCUCGACCGAUUCCGUUCGGGGGAACCGAGCGAGGAGACAGGGGAGGGUGAGGGGGGUCGGCGGCGGCGGUGGAGCGGGGGAGGGUGCUGGGGGUCAUCGGCGGCGGUGGAGCGGGGGAGGGUGCGGGGGAGGGUGCUCGUGGUGCGCCAUUAGUAGUUCUGUAAAAAAAAUAGUAAUGGCGCACCACCUACGAAUGCGCCAUUAGUGACCCUGGUUACUAAUGGCGCACCUCCUCUUGUGCGCCAUUAGUAGUUCUGUAAAAAGAACUUAGUAGUGGCGCACCACCAACAGAUGCGCCAUUAGUAACACUGGUUACUAAUGGCGCACUAGCUUUGGUGCGCCAUUAGUAGUUUGCAAAAAAAAACCAAUUUUUUUUAUAGUAGUGGCGCACUACUAACAGAUGCGCCAUUACUAACCAGGUUACUAAUGGCGCACCACGUGCUGGUGCGCCAUUAGUAGCCACCACACUAAUGGCACACCUCACAUGGUGCACCAUUACUAUAUAGUAGUGGCGCACUGCUUGUGUGGUGCGCCAUUAGUAUCUAUAUCAUCUAUAUCCCUUUUCCUAGUAGUGGAGGGGCCAAGUCUGCGCUCUAUCUACCCCUCCUCCUAUAUAUAGAGAGGGAGAUAGAGGGCAGUACCACCCCAAGGCAUUUCUCCUCCGAAAAGCAUCUGCGGCAACGCUUGGCGAAGCCCUCUUGAGAUCGCACCACCACUGCCGCCACCAUGCCGUUGUGCUACCCGAGAACUCAUCUACAAGUUCAGCCAUGCUUGCUGAAUCGAGAUCAUGAAGACGUCAUCGUGUUGUACGUGUGCUGAACGCAGAGGUGCCGUCUGUUCGGCACUUGAUCGGAACGAUCGUGACUUGAUCGCGAAGACGUUCGACUACAUCAAGCACGUUUCACAACGCUUUCACUUAGCGAACUACAUGGGUAUGUAGAUGCACCCCUCUCGUAGAUGCUGAUGUCCAUAGAUUGAUCUUGGUGAGCAUAGGAAUUUUUUUGUUUCCCUGCAAUGUUCCCCAAUAGUGGCAUCAUGAGCAAGGUCUAUGCGUAGAUAACAUGCACGAAUAGAACACAAAAGAGUUUGUGGGCAUUGAUAUUCAGAUUGCUUACUUCCUUAGUCUUACUUUGAUUCGGCAACAGUGUGGGAUAAAGAGGCUCAGACCAACCUUACUCGUCCAUGUACAAGAGACCGGUUCCUUCGAGUGACAUGCAACUUGUUGCGUAAACAUGGCUGGCGGGUGUCUAUCUCUCCCACUUUAGUUGAACCGGAUUCGACAGAGGCGGUCCUUGGNGUUUCACAACGCUUUCACUUAGCGAACUACAUGGGUAUGUAGAUGCACCCCUCUCGUAGAUGCUGAUGUCCAUAGAUUGAUCUUGGUGAGCAUAGGAAUUUUUUUGUUUCCCUGCAAUGUUCCCCAAUAGUGGCAUCAUGAGCAAGGUCUAUGCGUAGAUAACAUGCACGAAUAGAACACAAAAGAGUUUGUGGGCAUUGAUAUUCAGAUUGCUUACUUCCUUAGUCUUACUUUGAUUCGGCAACAGUGUGGGAUAAAGAGGCUCAGACCAACCUUACUCGUCCAUGUACAAGAGACCGGUUCCUUCGAGUGACAUGCAACUUGUUGCGUAAACAUGGCUGGCGGGUGUCUAUCUCUCCCACUUUAGUUGAACCGGAUUCGACAGAGGCGGUCCUUGGAGAAGGUUAAAUAGAAACUUGAAUAUCACUGUUGUGGCUUUGCGUAGGUAACAACGGUUCUUGCUAGUGACCCACAGCAGCCACGUAAAACAUGCAACAACAAGUAUAGGACGUCUAACUUGCUUUUGCAGGGCAUGUUGUGAUAUGAUAUGGCUAAUGACAUGAUGAUAUAUAUGUGAUGUAUGAUAUGAUCAUGUUUUCUAUAAAAUUACCAUGACUUGCAUGUCGAUGAGUACGGUAACCGCAGGAGCCAUAGGGUUGUCUUUAAUCAUUUGUGCAUUUUUUCUUUACUUGGUCGCUAUGAGUUAGCAAUAGUGGUAGAAGCAUAGUUGGUGCAACAGCCCCGAUGGCGACACGAUCAUGAUUAUCAUGAUGAUGAGGAUCAUGGUGUCAUGCGGGUGAUGAUGGAGAUCAUGCCGGUGCUUUGGAGAUGGAGGUCAAAAGCACAAGAUGAUGACGACCAAACCAUGUCAUCAUUACGAUUUACAUGUGAUGUUAAUCCUUUUAUGCAUAUAAUUUUGCUUAGGAUGACAAUAGCAUUAUAAGAUGACCCCUCACUAAAAUUUCAAUAUAAAAUUGUGUUCUCCCCAAGUGUGCACCAUUACGAAGGAUCUUCGUUACGAAGCAACACGUGAUGAUCGAGUGUGAUAGACUCUACGUUCGCAUACAACGGGUGUAAGCCAAUUUUGCAUGUGCACAACACUUGGGUUAAACUUCAUGGUCCUAACAUGUACAGACAUGGCCUCGGAAUACAGGAGACCGAAAGGUCAAACAUGAUCAUAUAAUAGAUAUGAUAAAGUUCACCAUUGAAACCACCUCAUCUCACGUGAUGAUUGGACUUGAGUUGGUGAAUUUGGAUCAUAUCACACUCAAACAACCUAAGGGAUGUCAAUUUGAGUGGGAGUUAUUAAGUAAUAUGAUUAAUUGAACCCAUUAUCAUGAACAUAGUCUAAGUUGUCUUUGCAAAUUAUGUUGUAGAUCAAUGGCUCGCGCAGUAGUUCCCCUCAUAGAGAAACCUAAGCUAAAAUAUGAUGGAAGCAACUAUGCGGAUUGGGUAUCUGAGGAUUAUCCUUACGGCUUCGCAAAAGGCUUAUGUCCUUGAUGCAUAGCUUGAGGGAACACCCCCUAGUGUCAGCAGAUGUUGUGAACUGUAACGCCCAACAUGCGAUUCUAUCCUUGUUUUGGCACGAGGGCCUCAACAAGGAUAGAAGCACAUAUCUUUGUUUCGCAAGAAUGAAUAUCGUUACAAGUACAUGUACUAAAAACAUAAGUAUAAGGAAUUGGCUUACACUCGCCAUAAGCUACAUCAAUAUCACAUUAAUACAACAAUACACAAUCAUCUUGCAAAAGAGGAGGGUCCAAUUACGGACGAAAACAAACGAUAAAAGAACGACGUCCAUCCUUGUUAUCCCAGGAUGUCGACCUGGAACCCAUCCUAGAUCGGUGAUGAAGAAGAAGAAACUCCAAAUAGCACAAUCAGCGCGGUCACGUCGUAAUAUCACCUUACAUGUACCUACAACUGGUGUUGUAGUAAUCUGUGAGCCACAGGGACUCAGCAAUCUCAUUUCCGAAGGUAUCAAGACUAGCAAAGCUUAACGGGUGAGUUAUGGUUAAGUGGUGAGGCUGCAACAAGCGACUAAGCAUUUAUUUGAGGUGGCUAGCUUAUGAGUACAUGUGGCGAGUGUAAGCCAACUCUUUAUACUCAUCUUUUCGGUACAUGUACUUGUAACGAUAUCCAUUCUUACGAAAUGACGAGAUGCGUUUCUAUCCCUGUCCAGGCCCUCGCGCCAAAAUAAGGAUAUGACCGCAUCUUGGGUGUUACAAGUUGGUAUCAGAGCAGUACGGACCUAGGAGCCCCCUUGAUUGAUCGAACAUGGCCGAGUCGAGUCUGGUGAAAAAUUGCUUUGAGUCUUGUUAUAUACCGGAGAGUAGGAUUCUUUUUUCUCCUCUUCUAUGCUCUCGUGAGGAAUCUUGACGUAAUAAUUUAAUUCUACUCCUCUUCUCACUCAAAAAAAUUAGGAUCACGUGGAUAUUUUUGGAAUCUAUAUGAUGUCGAUGUGACGGAAUUCUGACUUGGUGCCUCCUGCUGUGUUGAUUUUAUUCCGGGGAGUUGAGCUCCAGGGGAUUCUUGAGCACAUCGUUAUCAUUUAGAUUUCUUAGGAUGGAGGAUGUUCGAAAUUGCUUCAAUACUAGUAGUGGUGAGAUAACCCCGGCAUCCCCAAUACUGGUGCAGAGAGUUCAGGGGUACUGCCAUACUUAGUAUCAUGGUGUUUUUGAGGAUCUGAGAUAGAUGAGUUUCCGAGAUCUCUGGUUAUGUGUUGAUGGAUGUGAGACACUAGACGGGUAGUGUUAUUGCUAGGAGUUGAGUGAUGGAUUUUCUCCUUGAAUCCGUGGACCCGAUUCCAUGACGAUAAUAUUUCAGGAGUUCUUAGGUUGGAAUUCAAGUAGUUACUUAUAGGACAAUCUUCAAACAAAUGCAUGAUGUGAGGUUGGGGUUCGAAAUCUAGUGGAUUCAUUUGUUCACGGUCAUCUUACAGUGGUUCUAGUUGUGUCUUAAAGAGUACUUGUAGCUUCCUACGACUCGGGGACGCUUCGUAUGUCGUUUGCACUCCCUUGUACAUGAUGGCUACUCUAGGAUUCACGAAAAUAUCAGAUGAAAUCUGUGUCAUGAAUUUGUUCCGGCUUGUUUUGGUAAGCCUCAACCUUUGUUUUUUUGGAGUAUGGUAAUUCGAGUUGCUUCGAUUUUAAGUGGUGAAUUCAAAUCUUUCCAAGAGGUCUUCUCAUAUUUUUAGGGGAAUGCAAAAUAUUUUGCUCAAUCAAGUUGUGUUUUCAAUUCUUGCCAGCCGGAGUCAGCGUGACAAUUCUUUUUCAUCCGGUGUGCUUCUCUUCAAUUGAAUUCAACCAUCUCCAAUAUUUUGGAAGAUCAAUCUCUCAUUUCCUGCCCACCCGCCCUUUUCUUUAUUAUUCAAUUCUCAUCCAAGUGUCUUCUUUUCAGUGUUUCUUCUGCUAUCUUUUCUUUUAUUUUGUUCCCGGUGAUUCUUUGUGAAGAUUCUCGGGAGUUUUGAGCUCAUCAUUUCUUCAUUUUGUUUUCUCCCCGGUGGAGUCAAUUCAAGAUUUUGGUGUCAUCAUAUCCUUUUCACCCUUUAAAUUAUUUCCCAUGUUUGUAAUUCAUAUCAAGUCUUUCUUGUUUUUCAUCUCCCUCUAUUCUAUCCAGAGUGUUCAAGAUAUCUGAGAAGUUUCUUGUUUUCAAUUCUUUCAAUCAUUUUGAGGGUCUCACCUCAUCAAGUUUUCAUUCAUACCGGUGCAAUAUCUCCCUUCCUAAGCAAUCCUUUCAAAGGUGUUUUCUUUUAGUGGGCCCAUAACCCACAAGUUCUUCCCAGGAUCUUACGUGACUCUUCUAAUCUUUUUCUUGAGAUCUCUAAUUCUUCUCAAUUAUGGCGUAUAAGUAUGAAUUUCAUCAGUCAUAUUCCUUCUCCAAGAUUGCUUCAAAAUUAAUUCUCAUCAUUGGUCCAUUCUCUUGAAGAUUCAUCAUUUCAACUUUGUGUUAUCAUCUUGAAUUGUUCUCGAUCAUGAGAAAUUACUUCCAUAUCUAUUCGGUGCAUUUCAGUGUUGUGUUCAUUUCUCGAUCCUCCGAAGGCCAUCAUUUCCGAAGAUUUCUUCGUUCUCAACUUUCAUCUUUCAUCCUCAAAUUCUUCUCAAUGGUUGUCUCUUCAUUCGUCUCUCAAUUAUUCCAGUGCCUCAUUCAAGUUUUCUGUUAGGCGGCUGAGGAUCUCUUCAUUCUCUAGGUGUUCUUCAAGAUUCUUGUGGUAGUACCUCAAGUAUUCUAUCUCUUGCAUUUCAAAGAGCAAUGCUUCCUCCAUUAUCCUUUUUGGUGGUGUUAUAGCAUUCUUGCUAGUGGAGGAGCCUCGAAGGAAGUUUUUUAAAGAAUGAGAUAUGUAAACCCACUAAUCCUUUGAUCAUGAGAUUAUUUUUAACCCAUGGUUUCUUCAUUGAGCUAUAAUAGAUUAGUAGAUGAGUUCUCAGGUAGCACGACGACAUGGUGACGGUGGUGGUGGUGCAAUUCAGCAGGGCUUUGCCAAGGCCUGACGCAGACGCGACGGGGGAGAAAACUGAUCUAGAGGGAGGGAGGUGCCGCCAAAGGCUUGGUGUGUGGCUGCCCUCCCUCUCCUCUCAUGUAUAUAAGGGGAAGGGAGGAGGAACUCGUCCCUAGGGUUUGCCCAAGGGGUGGGGGCGGUGGACUAGGAGGUUGGUUGCCACUCAAGCAAGGGUGGCGCCACCCCUAGGGCUUGCCCUUCCAACAACCUAGCCGGAUGGGCCUAGGUGGGCGGGGUGCCCAGCCCACAAGGGGCUUGUGCGCACCCUUCUCAACCCAUCUGGCCCCUCUGGGGUAGGUGGGCCGCUUCCGAUGGACCCGAGAACCAUUCCGACACUCCUUGUACUCUCCCGGCAAUGCCCGAAUUCUUUUCGGUGACCAAAACCGAAUUUCCUAUAUAUAGGUCAUUACCUCCGAAACAUUCCAAAGAUCCUCGUCAUGUCUGAGAUCACAUCCGGGACCACGAAUAACAUUCGGCUACCAACAUACAUAACUCAACAAUACUAUAUCGUCAUCGAACGUUAAGCGUGCGGACCCUAUGGGUUCGGGAACUAUGCACACAUGACCGAGACACCUCUACGGUCAAUAACCAAUAGCAGGACCUGGAUGCCCAUAUUUGUUCAUACAUAUUCCACGAAGAUCUUUAUGAGUCAAACCACGAUGCCAAGGAUUCAAUCAAUCAUGUAUGCAAUUCCCUUUUUCCAGCGGUAUGUUACUUGCCCGUUAUUUGAUCACUGGUAUCUCUAUACCUAGAUCAAUCUUGCUACUCGCAAGUCUCUUUACUCAUUCCGUAAUACACGAUCACAUGACUAACUCCUUAAUCACAUUACUUGCAAGCUUCAUGUGAUGUUGUACUACCAUGAGGGCCGAGAGAUACCUCUCCGUCAUAGGAAGUGAAAAAUCCCAGUCUUGAUCCAUGCCAACCCAACAGACACCCUCGGUGAUACCUGUAGAGCAUCUUUAUGAUCAUCCAGUUAUGAAGAGAUGUUUGAUAUAUACAAGGCAUUCCUAUGGUGUCAGGGAGUUGCAUGAUCUCAUGGUCUUAGGAAAUGAUACUUGACAUGUAGAAAGCAGUAGCAAUAAACUUAAUGAUAUGAUCAGAUGCUAUGCUUACAGUUGGUUCUUGUCCAUCACAUCAUUGUCCUAAUGGUGUGAUCCUGUUAUCAGAUAACAACUCAUGUCUAUGGUUGGGAAAUCUUAAUCAUCUUUGAUCAACGAUCCAGUCUAUUAGAGGUUUACUAUGGACACGGUGUUGUGUAUGUAUCCACACAUGUAUCUGAGUGUCCAAUCAAUACAAUUAUAGCAUGGAUAAUAAAUGAUUAUCAUGAAGAAGGAAGUAUGAUAAUAAUCACUUUAUUAUUGUCUCUAGAACAUAUUACAACAUAUCCUUCUAUCCAUGUGCGGCUGUCAUCCUCAUGAAGAAGCACUUGGGGGUUGUGCCAAGCCUACAUAGCCUUGGAGGAAGACCGGGUGGGAUCCAUGCCGGAACAACAUCGUCGGGGGACGCGUUCAUGCGUCGUCGCUGCCACAACGUCCCCAUCACAUUCUCUGUGAUGGGUUGUAACAACUCUUGAACCCCUUUAUAUGUGAUGUUAUUUGAGUAAUUCUUGGCUAUGGGUCGGUUCGCUAGUAAGCAUUUAUUUGAUAUGCGUUGUCUAUUUAUGUCUUCCAUAUUCAUGAUAUUAUUUACCCUUGCGGUAAUUUUGCGAUUGGAGUCCUAUGACCCAUUAGUGUAGUUGGAGACAUUCAACUCCCUAGAUCACACAUGAAGUUGAUAGAUAGUUGUGCAUAUCGAGAAAACUCCGGGUGAUAGGCAUCGAUAUCUUAAGGGGAACAUAAUUACCGAGGGAUCAUGGUUGUCCAUAGAACUUAUUGCCUUCGGUCCACGUCUUAUUAUAUUAAUGUGUUUUCCAUUGUCCACUCGCGGUAUGGGAUGGAAAAUAGGAAGAUUGAGUUGUCUCAAUACGAUGAUGCUUGAGAGACAAUGUUAUGUGAAGGACCGCCCACCAUUGAUCAAUUGCCUUAUCGUAUAAUGCAAGGUACAUAAUUAAUUGUAGGUUUUAACAUUUGAGAUAUAUAUAAUUUUUGUCCUACCCAUUAAUGUUUAAAACAAGGUAUGGAGUAUCUCAACUCGAUUAUCACACAGAGUUGUCAUAAAGUUGAGAUAUAGAGCUUUUCUUUUCGUUCCUGCACACAUAGUUGAAAAACUCACAUCAAGGUCAAUGGACUACAAAAUGACUAUUGCCUCUGCCAAACGAGUCCUUGAUGCGCCGUUAUCUUUUAUCCCACAAAGGAGCUAGCCUGAUCAUGUCCAUGACAACCAGGAAGUCUUCAUGCACGUGCCCCUAAGUACCCGUGGACAUCGUCAUUGAAUCCCUGAAUUGGUUUGAAGAACCUGACACCAAAUAACGAUGUGCGUACGCACGCGAUAAAUCCUAACCUCGCUACCUGAGGCGCUGCAAGGAAUAUACGUUUGAGGUCCAUCUAAUCAUUCCUCGAGGUCGAACUUUGAGAGAAUCGGAUCCCGAAAGACUCACUCGAAGAAGAAUCGUAACCAUCCAUCUGAUACGUCUCCAACGUAUCCAUAAUUUUUGAUUGUUUCAUGCUAUUAUCAUGUCAAACUUUAGAAGUUUUGCAUGCCUUUUAUAUAUUUUUUGGACUAACUUAUUAACUCAGUGCCAAGUGCCAGUUCCUGUUUUUUCCAUGUUGUUGACCCCUUUUAGAGGAGGAUUUUGAACGGAGUCCAAACGGAAUAAAACUUCCAAAAAGAUUUUUUCCAGAACGGAAAAAGAUCGGGAGACUUGAGAACCAAGGCAGGGGGUCCUCUGGGACCCCACAAGCCCUCAUGGCGCGGCCAAGGGGGCCCGCGCCGUGCAGACUUGUGGGCUCCCUGGGCCACCUCUGCCCUAGGUUUUGCGCCUAUAUAUCCCCAGAAAUUCCACAAAGAAUCAGGAGAUCAUCGAAAGUACUUUUCCGCCGCCGCAAGCUUCUGUCUCCGCAAGAUCCCAUCUGGGGCACGUUCUGGUGCCCUGCCGGAGGGGGGAUUGGGACACGGAGGGAUUCUUCAUCAACACCAGGACCUCUCCGAUGAUGCGUGAGUAGUUCACCAUAGACCUACGGGUCCAUAGCUAGUAACUAGAUGGCUUCUUCUCUCUCUUGGAUCUUCAAUACAAAGUUCUCCAUGAUCUUCAUGGAGAUUUAUCCGAUGUAAUCUUCUUUUGCGGUGUGUUUGUCGAGAUCUGAUGAAUUGUGGAUUUAUGUUCAGAUUGUCUAUGAAUCUUAUUUGAGUUUCUUCUGAUCUCUCUUAUGCAUGAUUUCAUAUCCUUGUAAUUCUCUUCGAGUUGUGGGUUUUGUCUAGCCAACUAGAUCUAUAAUUCUUGCAAUGGGAGAAGUGCUUGGUUUUGGGUUCAUACCGUGCGGUGACCUCACCCAGUGACUGAAGGGGUAGCGAGGCACGUAUCGUGUUGUUGCCAUCAAGGGUAAAAAGAUGGGGGUUUCUUCAUUGGUUUGAGAUUAUCUCUCUACAUCAUGUCAUCUUGCUUAAGGCGUUACUCUGUUCGCCAUGAACUCAAUACACUAGAUGCAUGCUGGAUAGCGGUCGAUGUGUGGAGUAAUAGUAGUAGAAUUAAAGGAGGAUCUGCCGUCGUCGUGAUGGUUCGACCACCUCUCCCCAGCCUAUCGAUACCUCCUUCCUCGCAGGCAGGCACAUCCUCCCGCUCCCGCUUCCUCCCACUGAUUUUCUCUAAUUAUACCCUGCAGAAAACCAGCAAGGAACCGACCGGUUCAUUGUGAGAAACCAGCCCAUGUUUUUGCUAAAAAAAGGAAAAACAGAACCCCCUCCCACGUCCCACGAGUGACACGUACCGCCCACCUCCAGCCCCUCGCUCGGUCGCUCCCGAUCCCCCAUCUCUUUCCUCUCCCCGUUCAUCGAAGCCGAUGCGCCGCCCUGCCCCAUGCGUCACCUGGCCGGCCUCGAUCUUGACUCGUCGCCGCUCCCCCUAGAGUAGAAGCACUCUGAGGUCGACGGCGUUUCUCUGCUUUGUCCUUGGAACGCAGGUGCCUCAAGGACGAUCCAUGCAUGGUUUCAUCGGGGAGCCCGGCAACGGCGUCACCGACAAGGCACCGAGGUUACGCAGCAGUAAGGCCCAUCCCUGGGUUGAGCUCACCCCCGUCACCGCCGGUGGCGCCGCUUGCCCACGCCCCCGCCGGUGCCGCCGCUUGCCCACGCCCCCGGAUGGAGAAGCUCGUCGCAACUGGAGGUCGUUCCAACAUCCAUGUGCUCUGUACUCUUAGGUUGUAAUUCUGAUGUUGUUUGUAACUAACAAAAAUAUGCUCUCUUCUAUGCACAUAAAAGUAGCCCAGGAUGCAUCGAGCUGCCAGACCUGAACACAGUUUGGCGCAUCAAAACUGAGGGGUAAUACAAUCUUUUUCAUAUGCCUUCUUUCCCAAAACCGAAGCAUCAAGUUUUCUAUCUGCUGCUAUUUUCCUCUUCUUCGUAAGCAAAUGCUGGCUUUUCUAUCCUUUUUCUUAUCUCUCGAGUUCGGUAAGAGAUGAAUCAUGAAGGAACAAAGAGAGUUCCUUCUGCCUGGAGUAUGAGAAAAAGGAGAGAACACAUGAAUCCACUUGUUUCACUAUACAUUAUGAGUUUAAAUUGGUCCGUUUACAUGUUGCAGUUGACCAAGUAGAAUGACAACAUAGGGAGAGGUCUGGAUGUACUCUAAUAAUAUGUGCUCCUAGGAGGGUCUGGUUGUAGCUGGCUGCUUUUUCUCAAUGCCCAGGUUCCACAUCGUACGCUUACCACUUAUUUGUUCUAAUGGAGUAGAUUGAAUAUAUUUGUGUUUCUACCUAAACUAAUAGAAUAGUGUAUUAGAUCCGGGCUACACAUCUUUGGUGCGUAGUGGGGGUGAGCUAUUGUAUUUCCUGAGGACUGAACGGUUCUCAAUUGUUAAGCUGGAAUCCUGCUUUGGAUUAUAUUAAAUCUUUACUACCUCGUGUGCUUCUUUUGUUAUAUUAUUUUUUCAUCUACCUUGUGUGCGUAGUGCUCUUACUGACAUGAGUUGGAACUUUUGUUAUCAUCUGCUCUACAGGAUAUACUGGACAAUCUAGAAUUUGCAAAGGGGGGUGCAGAAUCAACAUGAGGUUCUGUUAGAGCUGCAAUGGGGCGUCCUGAACCAUUCCCAGUCAAAUAUGUUGCAAUUGGAAAUGAAGAUUGUGGGAAAGAAAAUUACCAUGGUAAAUCUUCAACUGAAAUCCAUUCCACACUCAAGUCUUUUUUGUGGUAAUCUGCACACUUAAAGCCCUGCGCACAGUAUUAACAUAUACAAUUGAGGAGCAGGAAGCAUAGCUGGGCCAUGAUAUAUAUGUGUUAAAAUAAGUAACAUAUGCAAUCAAACAAAAACAAUAUGUGAUUUCGUGCUUGCUCGCCGAGAGUCACAUUUGUUCAUAUGAAAAAUCACAAGAUUAUAUUAGCGUGCAACAUGCAUCAUGUACAUAAUUUGAAUUUGUCUGACCUACUCAUAUAAGCUGACAAUCUCAUUUUAUAAUCAUCCAUUCAAUUUUCUGUCACACAUUUCUAAGUAUACGGAGGAGGGGGAUAUCAAGUCAAAAGUUUUUGAUGAGGCCAUGUUUCUCAUUCUAGGAUUUUUCAGGCCGAGCAGUGCUUAUAUAUAUCAUAUAGAAAUCCCUUAAACUUAAGAGAAUAUGUACUCAUCAUCAGAGUGGUCUGAUCGCGCGAAGAAAACUUUACAUCCAUCUGAUAAUGGGGAGAUUACUGUCCAGUGUCUUAUGGUACAUAGCAAUGAUCGCCUUUCUAAGGUCCCAAGGUUUAGAUUCAGUGAAUAUGAUUCAUUCUAGCGCUGACCAAAUAGUGAUAUUGUGGAUUAAUGUUCUCCUAUUUUAAGAGCAUUAUGUACCCGAGAUAAACCGAUAUGCCCGCAACUGCUAAGAAAACACGAAAGUGGUUAUGUGCCCCUUAAUUAUUUUGGUUGAUUUUGCAUGUAAAGUGUUUCUAUCUUAUCAUAACUCCCUAUUAUAGUGUAUAAAUUUUACUUGAACUAUAGAGAACCCAACUAUUUUCUACUGAUAUAAUAUGUCUUUAGAUACAUGACAUUCUCUAAUUCUAUUGAACAGGUAAAUGCCUUAAGUUCUGCAAUGCUAUAAAACAGGCAUAUCUAGACAUCCUGAUGAUUUCAAAUUGUGAUGGUUCAUCUACACCACUUGACCAUCCUGCUGAUUUGUAUGAUUUCCAUGUACGCUACUUGCUACCAGAUCUAUUUGCCUUCCUUGUUGUAUAGAUCCUAUAAUCUUAUCUCAUGUUUUGUCACCGAGGUCGAGUAAACUCAAGUUUUUUUCUGAGAUCUUGAGGAUGCUUCUUCUUUUUAGGUAUAUACCUCUCGUAGUGGGUCCAAGGUCGUAUGGUUCCUUAUCAUUUCAUAUACGAUUAAAACUGUAAGAAUAUUAGAUCGAUGUAUUUUUUCGGGACCAUGCAAGAAAAGUGCAUUUGAUCAUUAUAGAAGAAAUAAUAGUAUCUAAUCUCAUAUUACAAAAUCUCAAAAGAAAAUAACGACCUCAUCACAGAGAAGUAAAAUCAAGCUGCCCCAUCACAGAGAAGUGCUUGAACGCAAUAUGCUCCUCCUCCGUCAUUUGAAGGAUAUAUGAAAACUUUCAUGAGAAUUGACAUGAAGGUCAAACAUUUUGUAGUAGAUAUACCUCCUCUAUAGAUCUUUUUUUUCUUCAGGUUUGGGAGUAGUCUAUGCCUUCAGCGAGAGUAUAUUUUCUAGAAAAUAAGAAUUAAUUAUUUCAUUUUUAUACUCACCAGAGUUCAUGUUUCCCACUUUUUCAGUUGUGAGACGAACUUUUUCAUUUUCCCUUCAUAUAGCGAUAGGAGGUAUUGCUUAAGUCUCCUUUGAACUAUAUCAUAAAAAGAGAUUGACACAAAGUAAACAAACGUAUGUUUUCGAAGCUAAUAUUUCCUACUAUUUUGUUGUUUGUUUUUCCGGCAUCCCCCUUGAAACAAUGCUAUGGAUACUUCUUUUGGUGUUGAGUCGACUUCAGUUUCAGUAUCUACUCACCGGAAAAUUGAUAUCACUGUUUUAUGAAGAAAGAAUGAUAUCAAUAAGAGUACAAGGUUAGAGACAAAGACAAAGAUAGACAUUCUUAAGAACAUGUAUUGUAUGUUAGGAAGACAACAUGUUUGCAAACAUUGGGUAAAAAGAUUAGAAAGACAUCUAGAUAUAUAUUUUCUACUCCAUGGCAACGCAGGGGUGUUUACCUACUGUAUUUAGCUCAUCCCUGGGUAUUUAGAAAGACAUCUAGAUAACUGAGCUGGACUCUAAGGUCAAUCAGCUCCAAGAUGAGUUGAAGAAGACAAAGGAACGGCUGAGCGGAUCUGAGUCAUGAAGGCGCCAAGCACAGCAGGAGGAUGAUGAAGCAAAGAAGCAGGGGCAGGAUGCAUCAUCGAAGCUGGAGGAGUCGCAGUGCCAGCUUGUUGAGCUCUCAGCAGCAAAGGAAUCCCAUCUCCAGGAGCGGCGCAAGAUCCAACAGGAGCGUGAUCGCACCUGGUAGGCCGAGCUUGAGGCAUUGCAGAAAUAGCACUCCGCGGAUGCUCCUGCACUUAGCUCGGUGUUGUCCAAGAUCCUGAGGCUGAAGUUGCAGUGGGAGGUGACAGUUCACCAUAUUCGUUUGAUACAGCCAGUGCCCAGCAACGUGAGCAUGCAGAAUCUAAGCUUGAAGCGCUGGAGCAGGAGACGGAGCUCAGGCUUGCAACGAUUGAAGGCCUGAAGGUAAAUGUCAAUGAAAGUGACAAGGCUGCAGCUAAUGCAAAUGCCAUGGCACCUGAGACCAAGCUACAGCUUGAGACCGCAAAGGCCACCAUUGACUCACUCCUAUGUGAGGGUGUCUGGUUGUAGGAAUGCCUGAGGUCAAAGGACAUAGAGCUCAGUAAGUCUAAUCUGAAGGAGGCUCAGGCUGCAGGUGAUGAAAUUCGGAAUGAGGCAUAGGCAGGCAAUGCCAAUCGUGGCUUUGGCAGUCCAUUGACUGAAGUUUUGAAAAGAGCCCUCAUCCCACCAGUGACAUGAAUGGAAGAUGUCGAAGUCCUGACCUAGAGAUUGAGCCCUUGGCCCUUGCGGAUGGCGCUUGAGGUGGCUAAGAUGAGGUACCAGGAGGAGCAAACUGGGAUGGCCUUCGAGACAAAGACAGUCUAUGAGAUGCUGGAGUGUGUCAAGUCUGAGUGCAUGCGCCAAGUGUGUGAUAUCGAGCUCAAGCUGAAGAGCAAGACUAAUGAGCUCAUGGCAGCGUAGGCAGCCCUAACAGGCAAGGCGCAAGAGGACCUUCACAGGUCACACGGGCUGAGCGAAAUGCAGCCGGAGCUGGAGGCGAAGCUGAUGAAGUCGAUCACCGACAUCGCAGAGCUCAAGGCGAAUCUGAUGGACAAGGAAAACACGUUGCAGAGCCUGUCGGAGGAGAACGAGACCCUCAAGUCGGAGGCUGGAAGGAAGGAGGCCGGCGUGCAGCAGCUGGAGCAGGACGUGCGGAUGCGGCUCGGGUACGUGACAGAGGAGGCCAACAAGAGGAACCGGCGCGCAGCCUGGGCCUUGGAGCAGGUGGACGCGGCCCAGGCAGCGAGCGCUGAGGCGGACGCGGAGCUGCGCUGGUUGCGUGUGCGGUCCGACCAGUGGCGCAAGGCCGCGGAGGCCACCGCCGCCCUUACUGGCGGCGGCAACAAUGGUGGCCUGAUGGUGGAGAGGACCGAGUCGCUGGACACGGAGUACAAUGGGUCGAUAGGCGGAAAGCUAAUGGGGUAUGUACUAACAAAUAAGUAUUUUCGGGCGGAGGGAGUCUGUACUAACAAAUAAGUUCAUGAAAAUGUUAAUCCGGACUGAAACUAUUGCACCUUAAUUGGCAUGUAGGUCAAACCUGGCUUGUCUUGUGUAUGAAGGUUUUCUUACCUUGUUUGAUUGUUGGAGUCCUAUCUUAUGUACGAGUACUGAAUGGCCUUGCCUAGAGUCUGAGAGAUAGUCAAACUCUGAAUUUCCCUCUUGGUGGUAUCUUUUGUUUUCGUCCAGUACUAAUGAUAUGAAAUUUGUGAGAGCUGUAAAACAUCACGUUAGGUGUCCUUCCUUGUUCAAAGUUAAUUGUCAUUUUGAUAAUACUUUAGAAGAAUAAUGCAUGAUUUCUUCAACUGAGGCAUGAGUAAUCAGACGCUACAAACAUGGACAUUACAGUUGCAAAGUUUUUAUAUACUAACUUAAUUUAUAGACACUCCUUUCAGAUAGCUGCCCCUGUCAAUGGUCCAUUAUAUUUACAUUAUGGCUGAUUUGUGUUCUUAUGUGGAUCAUGCGACGUUGUGAAAAUGAGGUUUAAUGUUGUAUUUUUUUAAUAGGAGUUGCCAUGACAAAUGAAGAUGAUAUGUGUCACAAGUGCACACUUGAAGUUUGCCAUCAUGUUCUAACUUCUAUGCCCGGUGGCUGUGGAGGAACAAGUGUGUCGUGACAGGGUGGUGUUGGCAAUUGAGGUAUGAACCUAGAAAUUAAUCUUGGAGAUUGAUUGCCUCAUAAUGCUAGAUUGUGCUUGGAGGGUUGAAAUCGUGGUGGUUGCUGAAAAGGAAUUAUAAAAGGAAACGACAUGCAUCUGACGUUUGACACGUUUCUAAAAUAGUAUCCUUUCUUUAUGCGCAUGUAGCAUGAUAACAAUUAUGAACUACCAGGUGACUACCCCAUUCAAUUUGGCCUAGGACCUCUAGAUAUGGUCAUCAAUUGGUCAGUAGAAUUUAUAUUAGUAUAACACUAGGGUAGAAGCUCUUUUCCUAUUUUUCAUGCAUGGAGAUAGAGAAGACCAUGAUAUGAUGCACAAGAUUUUGACUAUUUUAAAGAAUAUUUUCUCAUUCUAACAUGUAAAUUGCAUUCACGCAGUUGCUUUGCGUUUGAACUAGCUCGCGGGCUUUUGUUAUAUGUGCUGACCACAUGAAGUUCCAAGUUUUUUCCCACUCGAGGGGAAUAUUGGGCGCUCUCACUACAGAUUUCUUACAGAAUGGGUAUGUUCGGGACUGAACAAAGAUUCAAGCUAAGACAACUAUUAUGUUAUUUUAGUUGGGUUCAUUUAGCUUUUAAAAACUAUUCCUUUAAAUAUAUGUCACAUUNUGCCACCGAUAGAUCAUUUAUACCAGAUAUUUUGUUUACAAAUGACGUGUUUAUUUUUAAUUGUUUACUCCUUUUUUAUAAGACAUGAAAGGGGGAACAGGAUUAUGUAAUAUAAGGAUAUGUAUACUAAUUUUUUUUUAUGGAAGAUAACAAGGAAAUUUAUGACUUAUAAAAUUAUAUUUUUUAUGUUUUAUUAUGUCACAAUUUGAGUUUUAGACUUUUUGAUAGUUUUGACUAAGUAUAUAAUAAUCUAUACGUGUACUAGAAAUUAUAAAUGGUGGUCCGAGUGAGGUAUCAUUUUUUCUAAAUCUAGGCAACCAAAUUUGUUCAAUAUCAACUGCUUGAUUUCUUUAUAUCCUCUUCUUUCGCCCACUAUUGAAACAUACAUUGGUCGAGAUAACUUAGGGAAGAGGGAGUUGUUGAACCAUGUCUGUAGGCCGACAGCGACGACGAGCGUGGUGAUUGUGAUGGGGUGCAACGAGGACAUCCGCGCGUGCCAAUAGCUGCUUCACGUCCCACGAGUUCUUUUGUACCUAAGCGUACACAGACCAUGUGACGGAGAGAGGUCGGAUUUAGACGACUGGAGAUGCCGAUCGAGGUAGGUCGGGUGAGGCGCAAGAGAGUGGUAUACCAUGUCGUUAUGCCCUCGAUGGACUGUGCCAUGGAGAACGCGAGAACCCGCAUUCCCGGUGAGCCGAAUCGCCCACUCCCGCGGUGGCAGCACGGGGCAUGGCGUCGUAGUGGGGAUCACAAGGCAAGAUGAGAUGGACAUGAUCUCGGUCCUGUCGAUGCAGGCGAGGGCAACGGUUGGGUCGAGGGACUCCCAAUCUCGUCGAUGCGACAGAGGCCAUCGUCCAUGAGUAGCCUGGGCUUGAGCGCGAGGAGGCUGGCGAGCAUGAUAAAUGGCCGCUUGCGUGUACGUCACGGCGGGGAGGACCAAGGGGAGCUCUAGGAGUGGACGGCGGCCAGGAACACGAGGGAGAGCGGCUGCUUUGGGGUGGACAGCUGUCGCGAUUUUUUCAAGAGAUAGAUCGGAUUGGGAGGAGCGAGGGUGCGUGGUCAUUGCUUUUUGCAUGCCAAGAUGAUGUGCGGGUAGCCAGAUCGUGAGGGUGGAGGUCGACUGAACCAUCCCGUUUGUUCGCUGGGCUUUUUCUACGUGGAUCGAAUGAGGCGUGGGUAGCUAUCGCGUAGGAAGGGAGGUGAGGAUUGAUACAAAGGGUGAGCGGUAACCCAACGAGGUUAAACCAUCACGACGACUGCACAUCCCUCUUUUGGAAUUCCUUCUUUCUAUGUCUGCUGAAAAAUUAUUACCCUCGGUUCUUUACAUUAUUCGGUCUUGAACCAUUUUUGUAUGGUGCGUGUUUUGGCCGAAGUGAAGUUACGUUUUAAUGAAAUAUUUCUUUAACAUGAGCAAUGGUCCUUGCUUUUUAUGGCCUGUUGAUCUCUGUGCUCAUGAUACAAAUGUAAAUGAUUCUUUUGAUUGACAUAGGCCUAUUAAUCACAAACCAAACUGCAAACUCCAUUCAUGUACAAAUAUUACUUUCAUGAUUCAUAAAUCAUUUUUGUAAACUAUUAGUUUAUCAUGGUCAAAAAAUAGGGUGUAUCGUCAUGAUUUCGGUGUACUGUUUUAAAAUUGUCGCAAAAUGCAAGAGCUAGGGGGACAAGUACUCACACUCUCAGCUUCUCUACAAAUGUAAGUCUGUUGGAAAGACAAAGACAUGUGAUAUUAAGUUGGAAAGACAAAGACAUGCGGGUUUUUCAUGUGUACUUUCCAUUUAUGGCAUGAAUAACAUUAUGAAUAACUAUGUAUUGUACACAUGAGUCAAGCUUUUCGUAAUAUGCUUUUCUCUCACAUGAAGAGAAAACUUGUGAAAGUGCGUUAUAUCGACUAGAGGGGGGUGUAUAGGAGAUUUUUAGAAUUUCAUCAUUGAGGAAAUUCCUUUUGAGGAAAUUCCUCACUGAUGACUAACUUACAGCGGAAACAGUAAAGGAUCAGAAGUGCAAAGUUUCACAACAGCAGUUUUUUAGAGUGAAGAAUGUGAAAACAGAUUGCACUGUGAGCAGGCAUGCACAAUACAGAUGAGGAUUAAUUGACGUGAAGAAUUUGGGGUUGAGGAAAUUCAGAGAAAUUCUUCAGCAAAUUCUUCAAACAGUCUCACUGAAAGUCAUCAACACAUAACACGAGGAAAGUAAGGAGUUGAGGAAUUAGAACCCGUUUCUCAGUGAAGACAGUCGUUGAUGACCCAGUUCCAACUGCUGUGACAGUCGUACAUCUGUUUGGAGCGGCUUGGUAUUGAAACCAAAGGACACACAGUCCCGGGACACACAGUCUCUACCGUAUUCUCCUUGAGCUAAGGACAGACAGUCCUCGCCCAACAAUCGUGGUAAGUCUUCAGGGCAGACUUCCAAACCCUCACAGACUUGGUCACCCGGCGAUCCACAAUUGACUGCUGGAAAGCUCUAGACCAUGACGCCUAACCGUCUGGAGGAUGCACAGUCCUCAAAGGUAAAAGGCUUCAGUCCCACACAGGAACAACUUCUUCAGUGAUGCUCAAUCACCAGGUUUGGUUUGUGGUUUCGGUGUAUGGGGUAUUUCCUCACUGAUGAAUUACUCUUUAAGAAUCUGAGGAAUUGGGUUGCUCUUAUGACAAGUGUCAGUUUCUAACGGAGCAGCCAACCAGCUAGUGGUUGUGGGGGGUGGCUAUCUAUAGCCUGGGAGCAUCCCGACAUGAUCUGACACUAAUGCCCUUAAAUAAUAUGACCGUUGGAGUGGAUAAGACCAAUGACUUGGCGUGGCUAUCGGAACGGUCGGAACCCUCAACUGGGAGAGUCCUCAUGUCAUUCGUAUUCCUCACUUGAGGCUUUUUGGUAGGAUUAGGCUUGAGAUGAGCAUCAUGAGGAAAUUCAUUCCAAAGUGUAACUUGGACCCCCUUUAACAGUACGAUGUUCCUAUUACUCAAAUGCGAAGAAAAUAAAACAGAAAGUGUAAAUCUUCAUGCUUCAAAUUCUUUAGAGUGAUUUUCUUCAGGACACACCGGACUUCUCAAUAUCAGUAUCUUCAUGAGGAAUAUCAAUUUCAUCGCAGAUUCUUCGCGAUUCAUUUCUUCAGCUUCAGACCAAUUUCUUCAACUGAAGACAUACAUUUUUAGGGGUCGAUAUUCUUCAAAUAUAUCAAACUCCUCAAUGACUUAUAGAUCAUGUGUACACUCACAAACACAUUAGAUACUUAACCUAUAAGUCUUCAAACCACCAAAAUCACUAAGGGGCACUAGAUGCACUUACAAUCUCCCCCUUUUUGGUGGUUGAUGACAAUUAGGUUAAGUGUUCAACAGGGAUCAAAAAUAUGAAGUGUAAAUACUCAUUUGCGGAAUUUGAAAUCAAGAUUCAGAGAGACUCCCCCUGAAGAUGUGCAUAUCUUGAGGAUUUUGCUUUUCACAGCAAAUGCACAUUGAUGAUUUAUAUCAUGGAGAUCUCCCCCUGAGUCUUGUAAAUCAUGCAUACAUAUAACAUAUCAUAUGAAGAAAAUGAAAAUGCAUGAUGACAGAUGGUAUCUGACGAAUUCCAGCAUGCAUGCAUUAAAACUUGAGGAAUAAGCAUGCGAAGAAAAACGUUCAAAAGCGUCAGAGUACCAUCGGGCUUAAGUUACAACUCAUUACAUAAAAACCUCAGAAGAGCCAAGAGUUUGUAACUUAAACAUAGUUCAUAAGCCCCAAAAAUAUCCCGCUUGAAGACUAACUCUCAAGUUUCUCCCCCUUUGUCAUCAAGUGACAAAAAGGGACAAACUGAGGACUAACGUCCGUGAAGAUUUCACUUUGUGGCAGUUGAGGAAGAGCAGUGAUGCUCCUUGGGAGUAGUCUUCUUCCUUGGACCGGUAGCAGUGUCGAGCUGUUCUUCAUCAGUUUCAGCAGUGCGGAAUGAAGAAAAGGAGUUGUCUUCAAGGUCUGGCACUGGAAUAGGUCUGAACUUCUUCUUGGGAGGCCACGACCAUUCAAAGUCUCGCUCAAAGUCCAUUUCUUCAAGCUCAGUCUGAGUCUUCAGAUGUGCAAGUGUAGCCUAUGUGCGAUAAAAAACCUCAUGCAGAUAGUGAUGGUUGAGCUUCACAGAGUUCUGUGUUUCAGUGAGGGUUUUCACAAUGGCGCCAAACUAGCGUUUGACCCAUUUGUGAUUGCGAUCCACCUUCUGGUGAAGACUAAGGAGGAGCUCUCUUGUAUUCAUCACGCGAGGAGGAACGGGGCUUGCCGGACAAGUCUCAGUAUCAUCCCAUGAAGAAUAAGCUUCUGGCUCUCUGAACUGGCCAUCAAGGGGCCUACUGCCUUCUUCAAUCACAGAUUUGCCUUUUCCUUCAAUGGACUCGAAAGUCUUCUUGUUGACCCAGAUAGGAGGCAUAUAACCAACAUGGUUUUGGAGAUCAGCGUGGAAGUUGAUGCCUGUCCUUGUCCUGAUGAAUCUCAUGAUCCAUGGGGCAUAUAUCUUGUGAUCAAAAGGACACAUAGCAUUGUCUGCCAAAGUCCUCAAGAAGAAAUUAUGGAUGUUGAUAGGAAUACCAUGGAUAAUGUUGAAGAGGAUAUUCUUCAUGAGGCCUACGACAUCUUCUUCAUCAUCAUGGCCUUUGAUCGGCGCGAGCACACUGCAGAGGAUUCUGUAAACAGAUCUGGGUGUGUACUUGAGAUCAUGGACGAGGAAGGUUGUUCUCGAAGGUUUUCCUUCAGCCAAAGGUUUCAUGAGGACUUCCAUCAUCCCAUUGGGUAGCUCACGCUCACCAUAAAGCUUCACAGCCUCAUCUGAGGGAAUUGGUAUAGGCAGUUCUCAGAGGAGUUCAGUAGCAGGAGCGUUGUAGUGAGUGUUUUGUGACAUCCAAUCAAACACCCAAGUGUUAAUGUCUUUAGGGUUGCCAGAUAUGUGAAGAGUGGCAUAGAACUAAAGAAUUAGCUCACUGUUCCAGUCAGAGAUGUCGGAGCACAUUGGGAGUAAACCAGCAUCAUGUAAUACACUGAGGACUGGCUCCAGGCACGGUAUUGCGUCAAGUUCAACAUGAGGAUUAUGCCUGUGCUGGAAUAUCUUGUUUCGUCCACAUAGCAUAGAGGCAUAGUAAUUCAUCUGAGUCCUAGUCCAAAACUUCAGAUGCCUCAUUUGAGGCUUGUCAUAGGGGUUCUCUCCAAUGAAGUACAUGCGUUCUUCAAAGAAAUUUUCCUUUUGAAACUUAGGACGCUUGGAGAAUGGCUGACGCUGAACUAGCUUAAGGUUUUGCUGAGGAACAGGAGGGGAGACAACAAUGGCAGUCUCUGGGUUGAGGACAACGAAUGCAUUGUCUUAGUCUGGUGCAUUUUCUUCAGCAUUUUCCUCAGGGUGAGGAAUUUCAGCAGCUGGUACUUCAGGCUGAGGAGAUGGUGCUGGCUGGGCAUCAGGAUGAGGGGCUUGCUCUGGCUGUGCAUCAGGCUGAGGAAUAGCUUCUUCUUGCUCAGUUGGAGGAGUUGGGUCAGCCUGUUCCUCAUCUUGAGGAUUUUGCUCAGAGCGUUGAACUUCAUCAGCAUGAGGAUUUUCAGUUUGUUCUUCCUCAGCUGGCUUGGUGGCAGAUGCAAUUUCAUCAGCUGGUGCAGCUGAUGCUUGAACAAUGUCUUUCUGAGGAAUGAAAGGCUGAGGACUGUCGUCUAUAUGAAUCUCCUUGUCAGUGUGUUCCUGAGAGGCGGUAUCCUUCAUUUCCUCAUCCACCCUUUUCGCUGGAUCAUCAAUGAUGUCCAUUUCAUAGGAAGGAGCGACAUUCAGGGGCACAUGGUCCAGAGGAGCAGUUUCUUCAAGUGCUUUGAGGCGCUUGGCCUCUGUUUCUUGUUCUGCUGAGGAGGCCUUUCUCUUUUUGGCUUCCUUCUCCGCAACCCUGGUUUUCUUCACGUUGAUGCAGACGGAGUCAUCUUCUUCACCGUUGAAGCUUUUGGUGAAGGGGUUCUCUUGACAGAUUCUUCAGCUGGUAUUGAGGAACCAGCUGGAUCAGAGUCAUCAGCUUGCUUUAGUGAAGCAGCUGGGUCAGGGGCAGUCUCAUCAGCUGCAGCAAAUUCAUCAGUAGGAGUUUCCAUGAUGAUUUCUUCAAUAGCCGGUUCAUCCACACGGCGUUCUUGGUGUACUUCCUUAGCUUGAGGAGUUUCCUCGUCAUGAGGAGAUUCAUCUGCUGGCUCCUCAAUUAGGGGCUGAGAAGUUGGUGAUGGGGGUGCAACCUUCUUAUUGUAAUCAUCAACAACACUAGUGGCCAGCUUGAUGAAAUUGCUUUUGAGACUCUUACGAUCUGACAGCUUGUAGUACUUGUCAGUCAAUUUCUUCAGCUCUGCUUGUGUUGAUACCAGUGCAUCAGGAGUCAAUUUGUGGAGAUUAUGCUUGAGGAAUUUCUCCUUUUUAAGCUUUGCAACUUUGGCCUGCUUGGCCUGCUGUUCUUUCCACUUGGCUUCAUUUAUGAAAGUGGUCACCAUGUGGCUGAUGCCAGGGGGAAGUUUCAAAUCAUCAAGCGGAGUGUUUGGGUCCUCAUACCAUAUGUUGAUGUAGUCAAGGAGGACCUUGGGGUCCAUUGCCAGAGGAAUGGCACUGCCUGAUGCUUGAUCUACUCUUUCCUGCUUGUUCCUGAUGAUGGCUUGAAGUGUUUGAUCAUCAAAUUCAUCACUGCCCUCUGAUGCAGACGGGACGGUGAUAAUUUUGCUGGGGCUUGGCAGAGUUGCACGUUCAACAGAUACCUGAGUCUUCGCAGAAGAUGUUGAAGACUUUGUCUCCGAGCUGGUUGCAGCUGGGAGUGAGGAGCUGGAGCUGGCGGUCAUAGGCUUCAUGACUUGCUUCUGUACUGGUUUCUCUUGAGGCUUUGGUGGUGGUGCUGAGGAUUUUGGAGCUGAGGAGAUUGGUACUAAGGGCUUUGGCGCUCAUGGUUCUGGUGUUGAAGGUUCUGGUGCUGAGGGUUUUGUGACUGAAGCCUGAGCAGACUUCUCUUGAGGCUUUGGAGCCUUUGGUUUUGAUGGUACAGACUGCAUUUAAGGAAUUUCUGAGCCAGAGGUCUCAGCGGUAGAGGAAGUAGCAGCAGCUGAGGAUUCAUUGAAUUUCCUCAAUGCAGUUUCUGCCUGCUUCUUGAGCUUAGCCAGAUGCUUUUCCUUCUCAUCUGGAUAGUCAUCAAUGGUCAUCAGGCUUGAGGGAUGUGCUACUUGAUGAUCCUCAAGUGGGGACCGUCUGCCAGGGGGCUUCAAAGCGAAUUUCUUCGCAUACUUGGGAGUCACAAACCUGUAUUCCUUCCAUUCCUUCGCCCAUCGGCGUUCUAUCUUCUGCAGCCGUAUCUUUCUCUUUGCCAUUGUCUCAUUUUCAUCAGGCGUGCAAUACUCCAAGUAGAUAUCCUCAGGGAUAUCCACAGAUGUGUUUUGCUCAAGUUUCUUUCCUCCCUUCUGUUUUCUAUCAUCCUCCAUUUUUUCAGCUGAGGAUUUUGCUGAUGAGAUUGAACUCUUGAGGAUUCUGAUGAGACUUGAAGAUUUUCUUCAAGAAACGCUGCAAAUAAGUUAAUGUGAUGAGAACCAAGAGAUUCAUCAGCUGACAUGUGUGUACCUGUGAACAGAGUAUAGCUGCGAGGAAUUUGGAGAGGUCAUAUGCGUUCUCAAAUUUGAAGAAAAUGAAAAAGUUUGACAGUUUCACGAAUAUAACCAGUGGUUGAGGAAUUUGCCUAAGCAUACUGUUCUUGGGUUCCAGAGUUGUACAGAUCCUAAAAUUCGCACAAUUGAGGAAUCUCGUGAAAAUCUUAGAUGCUUAGCAUAAUUCAUCAAUGAUGUGGUGAUAGGAAGUGUUUGAGGAAUCAAGUGCUUAUCGAUUCUUGAGGUAAAACAGAUUUCACAUAGAAGAUGUAAAAUUUUAGAUCUAACUUGCGGUAAAAAUGGGAUUUAUUUACCCUGGAAGGUGCGCACGAAGAACACAGAAAGGUGUGUGUGGAGAAGCUCUUCGGUCGCGUGACCAAUGCACCCUAACCCGGCGACAAAUGACGUCUACGGCGGCGGCGGACAAAGAUGGUCUGACUCCGGCGUGAUUCUGGCGACGGAGAAGUUGAGGUAGUGAACCUCACCGGCGACGAGACUACGUACCAGCGAUGGCGCUAGGGUUCGGUGGUGUUUGCUGUGACAGAAGAACGAUGGAGCGAAGAAGAGUAUGCCGACACUACGGGAAUCAGGUAAUUUGCCGUCUGUUAAGAUCUUUGCCGUCAGCUUUUCUUCGUGGAUGACGGCAAAGAGCACUUUUGCCGUCAGUUGCCGUCAGCUGCUGACGGCAAAGAAUGACUGCCGGCGUAAACAUAUUUUGCCGUCUAUAAUAAAAAUUGCAGACGGCAAAAUUAUUUUGCCGUCUAUAAAAAUAAGCGGAUGAUGACAAAGAUAUAAUUUGCCGCCUGUAAUAGAAAGUGAUGACGGCAAAGAAGAAGCACAGCACACGGAUCGAUCACGCGGAUCGAUGAUGUGGCAAGAUCUGAGACUCACGAACCUACCCCAUCCCACCACGCACGAACGUGGGUGAAAAAAUAUUUUGCCGUCUGUAAAAAUAACUGGAUGACGACAAAGACGUAUUUUGCCGUCUGUAAACUAGAUGACGGCAAAAUUAUUUUGCCAUCUUUGAAAGUAACUAGAUGACGACAAAAUAAGAAGCAAUUUGCCGACUGUAAUAGAAACUCAUGACGGCAAAGAAGAAGCACAACACAUGGAUUGAUCACACGGAUCAAUGACGUGGAAAGAUCUGAGACACACGAGCCCACCCCAUCACACCACGCACGGACGUGGGUGAAAAAAUAUUUUGUCGUCUGUAAAAAAACCGGAUGACGGCAACGACUUAAUUUGUCGUCUUGAAAAAUAACCGGAUGACGGCAAAGAGAAAGCACACCACGCGGAUCGAUCCCAUGGAUCGAUGACGUGGCGGCCCAUCCCACCGUCGCUGCCUCUCCCACCCAGGAUCCACCGCAUCCACUCAACUCGGCUGGCCCACCACUCACCUCCACCCGACCUUAUCCUCUCACCACCUCUCUUCUCUCUCGUACCCAGACUCCUCCCCCGUCGCGACCACCACCUCUCUUCUCUGUCGUACCCAGACUCCUCCCCCGUCGCGACCACCACUCUCGGCCCCGACUCCUCUCUCGUCCCGACCACCACCCCCUCCUCCAAUGCACCACCGGCCACCCUCCCGAUCAGGUCGCCGGCGGCAAAGCCCCUACCCUCCAGCGCCCACCACCACUCAGCCCUUCCUCCGAUGCCCAACCACCCCCUCUCUCCGGCGUCUCACCGCCCACCCCUACCUCCCGCGCCCCAGCACCCAUCCUCUGGAUCAGGUCGCCGGCGGCAACGCCCCCACCCCCCGCGCCCACCACCACCCACCCUCUGGAUUAGGUCGCCGGCGGCGAGGCCCCCACCCCCCGCGGCCACCACGUCAGAUCCAGCGACCCUGCAGCUCCCCGACGCCACCGCAGUUGGCCUCAGCAGCUCCCCGACGCCACCGGAUCUGGCGACCUCAGCAGCUCCCCGACGCCACCGCAGCUCGCCUCUCACGCGACCCCGCCUCCUUCCAGUGCCUCCACCAGGUCGGCCUCCGGGUGGCCAGCCCCGGAUCCGGUGAGAUCCGUGAGGCGCGGCUGCGGGAGUUAGAUGGGGUGCCCGAGGAGCUACUCUUCGCCUGCUGGCCCUGCACACGCCGCCUGGUGGCCCCACACCCGCCGCCUGGUGGCCUUGUUCGAGAUGUGCCGCGUCCAUGCAGUGGAGAAGAAGCCAAGGGACCUGAUUGCUUUUUAUCUUUAGUUCCAGGGUGCUUUAUGUAAUACGCGAGGACUGCUUUAGGAGUUGUUCUUAUGUCAGGGUUCUUUGUGUAAAUUUAUAUCCACUUGUUGGCUGAUGUAGUUAUGCCCUUUUCUGCCAUUUUGGUUCAUUGAGUGACGAUGGACUAUGUAUGUUUUAUAAAAUCCGCUCGUAAUAGAUUCUAUCUAUGCCUUUGACCAGAUUUGCAGCUGAUUGUUAUUUAUAUUUUUUUUAAAAGAAAAUUCCGUUGCCGUUUGGUAUUGAUAACAACUGACGGCAAACCCGUAAUCUUUGCCGUCUUGCAUUCCGGUCGGAUGACGGCAAAGAGUUAACGUCGUCCGGGUGGUUCUGUUAGGUUUUUUGCCAUCUGCCUCAUAAUAGAUGACGGCAAACCGUUUUCACUAACGGCAAAUUUUUUGCCGUCUGCCCGAAAAAAUGCUGACGGCAAAAUUACCCUUUGCGGGCACAUGGUCUGACGACAUUUUUUGCCGUCAUGGGCUGACGGCAAAAAUUUUGCCGUCUGUAAUUCUCUCUUUGCCGUCUUUAGCGUCCUGAAGGCAAAAUGCCUGAUUCCUGUAGUGCGAGGGGGAUAAGGACAUAUUUAUAGCCAAAAGUUACUGUUGGCGCGAAAAGUUUGGACCAAACAGCCCGUGCCUCUACGUCUCCGCAGGACACGUGUAGCUCCCGAACAGUGCGGUGGAGAUAGUGGAGAUCGUGGUUAUCCAAUCGUGGGAAGUGGGGUUCAGUUACUGUGUAUUAAAGAAACAAUUUUUUAAGAUUUGAGGAUUUUCGUUACAAAAUCAUCAGCUGACAAGGGCGCAGUGAGGAUUUUGAACAAAGUUUCAAGUAGAACGCAUAUGAAGAAUUGAAUAGACUGGAUGAGUAUAGCAUAGAGGGAAAGUAGGGUCCGAUCACAUUCACUUAGCAGAAAUGUCAACUUGAAGAAUUAGCUAUAAGUGAAUGUUGUUGAGGACUUGAAAUCACAUUCUAUCUAGUCAAAUGAAAGUCAUCAAGUGUUUUUUGAAGAUUUUGUGAUAAAUCGUCACAAUGAAGAACAGUUGUUUUGAAGAAAAACACAUUUUGAGGAAAUAGAACAUUUGAAGAAAAUCAACUUGUGGAAUUUCACAUUGGGCGGUGGCGUGACCCACCAUAUAAGAAUGUUGAUUACAGACGCCGCGUACAAUUGUCGUAGGGCCCUGAGAAUCAAUUUCUUCAUUGAUUUCUUCACACUCAGAGUGACAUUCUUCAUUAGUUGAAGAAAAUCGAUUCAUCAUGUGUUGCACAUCUAAGUCAUCAGUUUUGCAUAAGUGUUAGGAUGUGUGCAUGUUUUCACAAAACAUUUGAGGAUUCUAAGAUAUUUAGCUCACACCGCAACUUGCAAAACCUUUUCUCAUCCAAGGGCUUAGUGAAGAUAUCUGCCAGUUGAUCAUCAGUCUUCACAUGGUCGAUGAGGAUAUUGCCCUUGAGGACAUGGUCCCGAAGAAAAUGAUGAUGAAUCUGGAUGUGCUUGGUCUUCGAGUGUUGUACUGGGUUGUAUGAAAUCUUGAUAGCACUCUCAUUGUCGCAGUAGAGAGGCACAUUCUUCAUGUUGAUGCCAUAGUCCUUGAGGGUUUACUUCAUCCAUAGUAAUUGAGCACAGCAAGAACCAGCAGCAAUGUACUCAGCUUCGACAGUGGAGAGUGAUACGCAGUUCUGCUUCUUUGAGGACCAGCAAACUAGUGAUCUUCCGAGGAAAUGGCAUGUGCCAGAAGUUGACUUGCGAUCCACAUGGUCACCAGCAUAGUCAGAAUCAGAAUACCCUACCAGAUGAAGAUUUGAGCCCUUGGGAUACCAUAAUCCUAGUGUUGGUGUGUGAGCUAAGUAUCGAAGAAUAUGUUUCACAACCUUAUGGUGUGGUUCCUUUGGUUUUGCUUGAAAACGUGCACACAUGCAAACACUAAGCAUUAUAUCUGGCCUAGAUGCACAUAGAUACAAUAGAGAUCCAAUCAUAGAACGAUAUACCCGCUGAUCGAAAUCUUUACAAUUUUCAUCAGUGCCGAGGUGGCCAUUGGUAGGCAUUGGAGUCUUGGCACCUUUGCAUUCAUGCAUGUUGAAUUUCCUUAGAACAUCCUUGAGGUAUUUCUCCUGUGAUAUGAAGAUUCCAUUGCUUUGUUGACGAAUUUGAAGACCUAAGAAGAAUUUUAGCUCCCCCAUCAUGGACAUCUGAUAUUCUUCACUUAUCAUGUAGGCAAAUUCAUCACUGUAUAUAUCGUUUCUCAGUACAUCCAAAUAUGAUACCAUCAACAUAUAUUUGACACACAAAUAGCUCAUUAUCAUAGGAUUUAUUGAAAAGAGUUGGAUCGAGUGAACCAGGUUUGAAGCCUUCUUUCAUGAGGAAUUCCUUCAAUGUAUCAUACCAUGCUCGAGGGGCUUGCUUGAGACCAUAAAGAGCCCUUUUCAGUCUGAAGACUUUGUCUGGAUUCUUUGGAUCCUCAAAACCUGGGGCCUGAGCAACAUAUACUUCUUCCUCAAGCUUACCAUUGAGGAAUGCACUUUUCACAUCCAUUUGAUAUAAGAUGAUGUUAUGAUGAUUAGCAUAAGCAAGUAGUAUUCAAAUAGCUUCAAGUCUAGCAACAGGUGCAAAAGUUUCAUCAAAAUCUAUUCCUUCAACCUCGGUGUAGCCUUGGGCUACAAGUCGUGCCUUGUUCCUGACCACUUGACCGUCCUCAUCUUGCUUGUUUCGGAAAAUCCACUUGGUGCCGAUGAUGUUGUGCUUGCGAGGAUCUGGUCGUUUGAUGAGCUCCCAUACGUCAUUCAGCUUGAAUUGAAGAAGUUCGUCUUGCAUAGCUUGGAUCCACUCCGGUUCCAGAAAAGCCUCAACAACUUUUGAGGGUUCUGUGAUGGAUACAAAGGAAAAAUGCCCACAAAAGUUAACUAAGUGUGAAGCUUUUGAGAGGACCUGGCGCGUUGAUGUCGUUGAGGAUUUUGUCAAGUUCUACUUCAUUUGCAAUCCUCAGAUGAGCUUGUUGAGGAUUUUGUCUGGGCUGAGGAAGUGGUUCUGGUGCAAUUUCCUCAGGAGCAUCUUCUUGAUUUUCAUCCGUGAUGGGAAUCGUUUCUUCACCAAUUUCCUCAGUGGGGACAAUGUCUUCAGUAGGCUUGAGCUUUCACUACAAGAAAUAAGGUCAAUUAUGACUCCCUAUAUUGGUCACUGAUUCGUCAUUGUCGUUGUUUAUUGACCUUUUUUGACCAAAUUUACAACGUCAACAGUUGGCCGUCAAGAAUGAACAAACAUGACCUUUCUAAAAUUUUGGUCGCAGGCCUCUAUCGACCAAAAUUUUGGUUUGAUCAUUACUCAUUUGUGUGAGCCACGUAGGAUCUGACGUGGCCAAGCUGACGUGGCAUUGCUAGUGACCAAAUAAAACCAUCAUAAAUUUCAGAUCCCUGUCCACCAAUCCAGCUACAUGGGCCUGACCCAAUACAUAUUUUACUAUUAAAAAUGUCUGAUUUGUUUGGGUUGAAGAAAAAAAAUUUGCCAGAAGCACGCAUAUCUCAAGAUAGGCCCAUUAAAAUAAGUACAACAGAAUAAAAGAUUGCAAAUAAAAUGUAUAUUUUAUUUCAGUAGCAUAUCACAUCAAAUACAAUACAUCAUCCACCGACUUCACGCAUUAAGGUUCAACGCCUAAUAAGGGCACAUCAAAAUAACUUACAUGUGCACAACAGAAUACUUCUCCAAGUGCAAGUAAACAGAAAAAGUUUCCAACAAAUUCACAAUCGAACAUAAAGAGAGUUCCACAAAGAUUGGAUGAGAACCACAAGUUUCUUCUCAUCCUCUUCCUCUGCACAAUAUGCUCUUGCCAUUCCCGUCUGCAAGAAAAAAAUGAUGGUAAGGCUGCAUAUACUUUGUAUACUUCGGACUAGAGUAUAUAGAUUCUAGUAUAUAUGUUGCAAAAUAGUUAUUACUGUUGUACGUGUGUAUAUAUAUCGAUGGUGUGACGCUACUUGUUUUCACUAUAGUAUAGCUACGUGGACACAUGUAGUAUAUGUUCGUAUACCUGAUACUAUAUUGACAACAAACCGAACCGACUACCGGACACAAAAUACUGGCAUACAUGGACAUAGUAAAUGGACUAUAAAAAAGAGAUUCAGAUAACAGCAAAUUGUGAAAAAGUAUCUUUAAUAGUGCCGUAAAUAAACUUAAAACAGCGAUCAACAGUAGCACGUAAACUAGAAGACAAAGAGAGAAAAGGGAAAAAAUAACCUACUUACAUGGAUAGAGAAAAUGGACUUCAAACAACAAGUAAAUGAGAAAACGUCAAAUAUUAUUGGAAAAUAAACUUGCUAAUGUGAUGAAUAAUAGCUGGAAUUAAAAUAGAAAACCCCUACAUACAUAGACACAAAGAGUUGAGGGGAAACUAGAUGACAGACUAAAACCAAGAGAGAAUAGGGAAUUGCAUUAUGUACACACAGAGACGGAAAAUAUCGGAACACAAAGAAAAAAUACACCUACCUAGAAUAAAGAAAGGAAAGGACUGAAGACUGUAAAACAUAUACAUGUACACUUUGUAUACUACUGUAAGCCUAUGUAUUACUUGUUGUUUCUAAAAAGGAAUGGACUGAAGACUGUAAAGGAACAUAUUUUUUUUCUUUCUAAAAGGACAUAAAUUAACGUGGAAAAUAGGGUAUGGAUCAUCUUCAGCAAAGUCACUAGGCAAAAAUUGCCUCCAGAAUCAUCAAUGUCAAAAGAACAUUGUAUGCGAAUAUUCGGCUACGCAUGAACCAGUCAACAAAAACAGAGUCACAUUGCAAAUUCAACUACAGUAAAAAGCUUACUUGCCUGAACAUACGGGAACACAAUUACAGGGAGGGUCUCAAGAAAGCAUCCAACUUGUCAUGCAACACAUUUGCAUCUCCCAGCCGUUCUUGUUACUCCAAUUCCUCCCCUGCAACCCGUGGCCACUGGACACACUCGAACCAGAGGUGUUCGAUGUUCCAUCCAGCCUAUGCACGGCAGUAAUUAGUAAGGCGAAAGGUAUGACUUAAAACCUAAUCCUCACGUAGCAAAAUAAAAUGGUAAAAAUAUGAACUUCAGGAAACCAACAAAGCAAGCAGGCAAAAAUUAUUGCAGCUAGCUCAUACAUCUUCCUUUUUCUAACCACACAUAAACCAAACCAAUGUAUCAUGUUGUGGGGGAACGCGCUGGCGGCGGCUGAUCCUCAUGAUAAACUUUGAAGGUAUCAUGUUUUUCUGACCUGAGAAGCCCUUCAGGAUCACAUGGGGCCUGGCAUCAUGAGGGGGCAUCACGAGGGAGUGGCCCAUUUUGUGGUGAAUCAAUGCAGCAUUACUGUCACAAGAGAGAGGAGUUAAUCAAUGCAGCAUUUUGUGGUGAAUCAAUGCAGCAUUACUGUCACAACAAAGGUGACGAAUGAGCAUUAUGCAAGCUCUUGAUUUUAUUAGAACCUGGGAUCGUGCAUAAACCGGUCGACCGUAGAGAUCCUGGAUGCCUAAGAUUUUGCGGUCAAUCAUGCCAACUGCAUUGCAGCCUGGCCAGAGUCACCUCGUACACCGCAUUUGAUCUGAUGUAAGUUACGAUUUUGAAGCUCAUCAGUUCUACUGUCAUCUAUAAUAUUGCUAGAUAUAUUCUUAGCGUGAAAAAUAAAUGUGAAAGUGGAACUUACAGUGAACGUUUUCUUUGUGGAACCAGGACCUGAUAUCUGAUACUCCCAGUUGGGAACGUAGGUACCAUACAAGAGGGCCAUGUAGGCGAUUGUGAUGAGCAAGCCUGCGAGUCUAGAAGAACAAUACCGAAUGGUAAUUUCAGAAACACAACUUGCUCAUACUAAGUCCUUUAAAUAUGUCAUCUGGAUCAGUGAUUUUUAUUUNNNNNNNNNNNNNNNNNNNNNNNNNNNNNNNNNNNNNNNNNNNNNNNNNNNNNNNNNNNNNNNNNNNNNNNNNNNNNNNNNNNNNNNNNNNNNNNNNNNNNNNNNNNNNNNNNNNNNNNNNNNNNNNNNNNNNNNNNNNNNNNNNNNNNNNNNNNNNNNNNNNNNNNNNNNNNNNNNNNNNNNNNNNNNNNNNNNNNNNUAUUUGGUUCUUAAAGGUUUGAACUCACAGUUGAUAUCUGUAUCUCUUGAUCAAAUCAAGUCCAAAAUCUACAUCAUCUUCUCCCUUGAGCCAAAUCUGACACAGUGCUCUGACAAGAUAAGCUAUUGUGAUUCUCUGCAACCAAGUAGGCACCACAAAUCAUAAGUCAUCCCACAUUUAGUUGAACUAUUGAUGCAGAAUAAUGUAUUGCAUAUGCCGCUUACCUGCAGUAUACCCAUCAAACGUAUUUGUGCAAUAUCAACCCCAAAAGUAAGGCUACGAACUCCUUGAAAAAAUCCACCUGUGCAACACAGCAGAACAAGAAACUAAACAUGAAACAUUAUGUCGAAUCGAAUGUACCGUCAUCCUGUUCAGGAACAAUCCUAAUUAAUACCUUGUAGAACAAAACCAACACAGAAUAGCUUCAGUGCACGAAGUGUUGCCUUUCGAGUCGCAUCCAAUUUGUCUGGCACUCUCUGCAUGCAUCACGAGAUGACGCAGUUAGGUGUAAGCAAUAGCAAGUCAUGAAUGUCACACCAGUGUUAGCUCGACAGAACGAAAGUAAAUGUCAUGGUCGUGUUGUUGUCAGUGUGUACCUUGUACGCUAGAGCUAGAGCGACCCCAACAAUGAAAAGGAAAAAAGGCAUGACGAAAUGAGCUAUGGUUACACCUUCCCAAGGGGAGUGGUUCAUCGCCGGGAGAAAUGAUCCAGUGUCGUCCGCGAUGAACAUAAGCUGCAGCAAUGAAAACAACGGUUAACUUUUAUUUCACCCAUUUUGUUAACACAGAUGGAAGAACAACAGAUUAGAAGGGCGCAGAAUGAUUUAUGUAAAGUAUAUAGAGUUGUACUGUGUAUUCCAUGGAGGAACAAGCUUUGUUCUACCAUUUCCUAGGGGACUAGUUAGAAGUUUCCACCGUCUAAGCCAAUCAUCUGCAAAUAUACUGGAGACCUUUCUAUAUUAAACAACCAUCCCACUUGUUACAUACCUGAUGGCACGAGGGUGAGAGCCGUAGCGAGCACCACCUUCACACGGCUUGAACCUGCACAUCGGGGCGCUCACGCCACCAUGGAUGUGGAUCUGAACCGGCUGCUCGAUCUUGGUCAAGGAGAGGUGAGGAGGCCACCGGUGGUGGGGAUAAGGCGAGGGGGAGAAGGGGUGGGGCACACGUUGUGGGGGAAGGCGGCGGCGGCGGCGGCUGAGGCUGUGGGGGAUGGCGCCGGUGAGUGAUGGCGGCGGCAGCAGGCGAGGGAGAGGGAGAUCGAGAGAGGGGAAUAGGGGAACGGGGGGCUAGGGAUGGUGCGUCGACGUGGGCAUUACGAGCAAGCCUAUCACAUGGGAGGCCACGGAUCCAUCCCUAGAAACAGAUCUGGCCAUCCACUCCUACUACAUCCAACGCUCCAAAAUCCUCCCCUCAUAGAACACACCUUUAUCACUUUUUUCUUCUUCCUUUUUUCGAUCGGUAGCACUUAAUGACCAAUUUGUGCAAUAGUAUCAUGACCUAAUGGACGUAAAAGGUCAUAACAUUAUGGGCUUUGGACCCUCUUAGACUUGCCAUGACUAAUUUCAGAAUUUUGGUCAUGGAUCAAUGACCAAUUAAACCACCGUCAUUUUUUGGGGUCAUAAUUGAGCAUUUUUCUUGUAGUGUUUAUUGCUUCCUCAAGAGACAACUUAUCUGGAUCAGAAGGCAAUUUCUCUCUUUGCGAGCCAUUAGUUUCAUCGAACCGCACAUCUACAGUCUCAACAACUCUGUUCUGAUAGUUCUUGAAGACUCUGUAAGUGUGCGAGUCCUUUCCAUAACCGAGCAUAAAACCUUCAUGUGCCUUAGGUGCAAAUUUUGAGCGAUGGUGAGGAUCUCUAAUCCAGCAUUUUGCACCGAAGACUUUGAAAUAACUUACAUUGGGUUUCUUGUCAGUGAGGAGUUCAUAUCAGGUUUUCUUGAGGAAUUUGUGAAGAUAUACCCUGUUGAUGAUAUGGCAUGCAGUGUUGAUUGCUUCAGGCCAAAAGCGACGAGGAGUCUGAUAUUCUUCAAGCAUAGUUCUUGCCAUUUCAACCAGAGUCCUGUUCUUCCUUUCGACGACACCAUUCUGCUGAGGAGUAUAAGGAGCAGAUAAUUCGUGAGUAAUAACAAGUUCAUCAAGAUAAUCAUCAAGACCUGUGUUUUUGAACUCGGUUCCAUUAUCACUCUUGAUAUGUUUGAUCUUGAUGCCAAAGUUCAUCGAGGCCCUUGAGGAAAUUCGUUUGAAGAUUUCCUGCACUUCAGUUUUAUACACUAUGAUAUGCACCCAAGUAUAUCUGGAAUAAUCAUCAACUAUGACGAAGCUAUAUAAAGAUGCUGCAUUGGUUAGUGUGGCAUAGUGAGUAGGUCCAAAUAGAUCCAUGUGAAGCAACUCGAAUGGACGUGUAGUGGUCAUGAUAGUCUUCGAGGGAUGCUUGGAUCUGGUCAUUUUCCCAGAUUCACAAGCACCGCAGAGAUGAUCCUUGAGGAAUUUGAUCGAUUCGAUGCCGAUGACAUGCUUCUUCUUCGCGAGCGUGUGCAAAUUCCUCAUGCCUGCAUGACCUAGUCUUCGGUGCCACAACCAUCCUUCUGAGGUUUUUGCUAAUAAGCAAGUGGCUGGUUGAGGACCUGUAGAGAAAUCAACAAUGUACAAAUCCCCUCUUCUUACACCUUCGAAGACUUUGGAUCUGUCAGAUUCCAUGAUGACUACACAUCUAUAUGUACCAAAGAUAACAAUCAUAUGAAGAUCACAAAGCAUCGAGACUGACAUGAGGUUAAAACCAAGGGAUUCAACAAGCAUCACUUUGUCCAUAUGCCUAUCCUUGGAAAUAGCCACUUUGCCAAGUCCCAAUACCUUGCCUUUACCUUUGUCAGCAUAUGUGAUUUGGUUCAGAGGUGAUGGAGUUAGUGGCAUAUUCAUCAGUAACCUUUUAUCACCAGUCAUGUGAUGUGUGCAGCCACUAUCAAGAACCCACUCAGUAUUCUUGGGUUUGUCAUCCUGCAGAUGAAUUAGUACAGCUUACCAUCUCAUAUGCUUCAGAUUUGAAGAAUAUGAUACUAAUUUCAUCAGACCAGUAAUUUCAUCACAACAGAAAUGUAAGGACGUAUGAAAUAUUUCUAUUUCAUCAAUCAUUAGCUUGCGUCCUAUCAAGCAUUUCUUCAGGUCUCCAGCAAAUUCUUCAGAUGAUGAUUUUCAUCUAGAGACCUGACCUGCAGAAGUGAUUAGUUCGAUUUCUUCACCACCCACAUCUAAAGGGGUGGCAAAGCAUUCAUUAUCCUGCGAGCACCAUAUGAGAAUGGUGGCAUUGAGGCCAAUGCACUUCUCUUAAUAGUAGGGUGAUUAAAGUACUCAUAUGAAUAUGCAGAGAACUGGUUAGAGGAUUUAUGAACAUAAUGAUUUGAGGAGUAACGCUCAUAUUCAUAUUCCUUGUAGUUUCCCUGCAUGUUAGACGCAUUAGCACGGGUACGAGCAUAGUUUUGACCAGUUGAGGAUUUUGAUCCUCUUGAAGACUUUGGUCCUCCUGAGGAAUUUGAUCUGGGGUUCAGAUUCUUCUGUGGUGGUGUCAUGAGGACAUUCACCUGAAGAUUUUCAAGACAGCUUUUGGGAACCCAGAUUUUCCUCAAGGGGGGGCCAUUCCUGCAGUUAGUUCCAACAUAUCGAGCAAAUACUUCACCAGAUUGAUUUUUGAACAAUUUAUAGUUGGAGUAAAAUGACUCAUCUGAGGAAUAGGAUAAUUCACAUGAAAAGCUAGUUAAAUUAGAUGGAUCAAAAGGAGGCCCAGUAGCAGCAACCCAUGAGGUUUUGGGAUACUGCUCACGUUUCCAAUAAGAUCCAUCAGCAUAUAAUUUCCUCUCAAAGGCAAUUCCUUCUUUCCUCGGGUUCCUGUUCAAGAUAUGCUUUUUGAGCACAUCACAAAGGGUUUGAUGUCCUUUGAGGCUUUUGUAUAUGCCUGUCACGUACAAUUCCUUCAACCCUGCAUUUUCAUCAGUAACAUUUGUGUUUUAGUCAAGUGGGGAGAUAGACACAACAGGUGCAGUUGAAGAAUUUGUAGCAAUAGCAGCAUUUGAUGAUUCUGGUGAGGAAUUAGCAGUUUCGCGUUCAAUGCAUUUAAUACAUGGAGGAAUGAAUUCAACUUGACCAGCGUUGAUCUGUUGAGCUAGUAAUGAAUCAUUUUUCAUACGAAGAUCAUCAUGAGACAUCCUCAGCUUCUCAAGGUCAAGCUUCCUUUGAAGAAAUUCAUAGCAAAGCUUCUCAUGAUCAGUGAGGAGUCUAUCAUAACGAUCCUGAAGAUUAUCAAAUCUAGACUGAAGACUUUUCACAUCUUCAGUGAGGAUUUGGGUAAGGUUCAUUUCAUCAUUCAACAGAUCAUCACUUUUAUCUAGAAGUUUCUGAAGCUUUUCCAGGGCAGUUUGUUGUUUAGUGGCAAUGAUAGCAAGUUUACUGUAACUGGGUUUCUUAUAAUCAUCAGGUUCACAGUCACUUGAAUCAGAGGAGGAGGCAUUAUUUGGUACCUUUGAACCUUUUGCCAUGAAUCAAUAGGUUGGAGCGAAGUCAUUAGCAUAGUCAUCAGUAUGGAUGGUGCAAUCAUUUUCUUCAAGAUUGAAGAUUGACUUGCUGACGAAAGUGGUUGCCAGUGCAAGACUAGCCUGUCCGGAUUCCGAGUCUUCAUUAGAACCCUCUUCUUCAUCACAUUCCUCUCAUUCUGCCUCAGAGUCCAUUUCCUUGCCAAUAAGUGCCCAAGCCUUUCUGAAACUAGUCUUCUUGUGCGAUGAGCGCUUUGAAGAUGAGGAUUUUGAAGAUUUCUUCUUCUUCUUCGAGUCAUCAAAACUGUCAUCCUUGUAUUUCUUCUUCUUUGAUUCCUUUCCCCAACGGGGACAAUCAGAAAUGUAAUGACCCGAUUUCUUGCACUUGUGGCAGGUUCGUUUCUUGUAGUCCUCAGAUGAAGAUUCUGAUUUCCUCAUGUCUCUUCUUGCAGAUUUACCGAACUGGCCACGUCGUGUAAAUCUUUGGAAUUUCCUCACGAGCAUUGCAAGCUCCUAUCCAAAUUCUUCAGGGUCACCAAUGUUGUCAUCUGUGUCUUCGUCUUCAGAUGAGGAAAUUGCUCUAGCCUUCAGUGCACGUGGUCUGGAAUAGCUGGGUCCAUAUAGAUCUCUCUUUUCUUCUAGCUGGAAUUCAUGAGUAUUUAGCCUUUCAAGUAUAUCAGCUGGAUCAAGCAUCUUGUAGUCUGGUCUUUCUUGAAUCAUCAGAACUAAAGUAUCAAAUGAAGAAUCCAAAGAUCUCAGCAGUUUCUUCACAACUUCGUGAUCGGUGAUGUCUCGAGCUCCGAGUGCUUGCAGUUCAUUUGAUAUGUCAGUGAGGCGAUCAAAGGUGUCUUGUCAUCUUUAUUUGUCAUGUCUCUUGAAGCGAUUGAAGAGAUUGCGAAGAAUAUCAACACGAGAGUCACGCUGGGUUGAUACUCCUUCAUUUACCUUGCACAGUCUCUCCCAUAUCAGUGUUGCAGAGCCCAAAGCACUUACUCUUCCAAACUGGCCUGGGCUCAAAUGGCCACAGAUGAUGUUCUUCGCUUGAGAAUCGAGUUGCUUGAAUUUCUUCACAUCAGCAACAAAGACACUGGCAGAGAUGAUGGGGACGCCAUGUUCCACAAUAUACCAGAGAUUAUUAUCAAUAGCUUGUAGAUGCAUUUGCAUUUUGUUCUUCCAGAAGGGAAAGGUCUUUCCUUUGUAGGUAGGACAUGCUGCACUCACCUUAAACAUGUCUGCAGUCGACAUAACUAAAACUCCAGGUGGUUAAACCAAAAUCACAUAGAACAUGGGAGUACCUUGCUCUGAUACCAAUUGAAAGUGCGUUAUAUCGACUAGAGGGGUGGUGAAUAGGAGAUUUUUAGAAUUUCAUCACUGAGGAAAUUCCUUUUGAGGAAAUUCCUCACUGAUGACUAACUUACAGCGGAACAGUAAAGGAUCAAAAGUGCAAAGUUUCACAACAACAAUUUUUCAGAGUGAAGAAUGUGAAAACAGAUUGCACUGUGAGCAGGCACACAGAAUAUAGAUGAGGAUUAACUGACGUGAGGAAUUUGGGGUUGAGGAAAUUCAGAGAAAGUCUUCAGCAAAUUCUUCAAACAGUCUCAGUGAAAGACAACAACACAUAAUACGAGGAAAGUAAGGAGUUGAGGAAUUAGAACCCGUUUCUCACUGAAGACAGUCGUUGAUGACCCAAUUCCAACUGCUGUGACAGUCGUACAUCUGGUUUGGAGCGGCUUGGUAUUGAAACCAAAGGACACACACUCCCUACCGUAUUCUCCUUGAGCUAAGGACACACAGUCCUCACCCAACACUCGUGGUAAGUCUUCAGGGCAGACUUCCAAACCCUCACAGACUUGGUCACCCGGCGAUCCAUAAUUGACUGCUGGAAAGCUCUAGACCAUGACGCCUAACCGUCUGGAGGAUGCACAGUCCUCAAAGGUAAAAGGCUUUAGUCCCACACAGGAACAACUUCUUGAGUGAUGCUCAAUCACUAGGUUUGGUUUGUGGUUCUGUAUGGGGUAUUUCCUCACUGAUGAAUUACUCUUGAAGACUCUGAGGAAUUGGGUUGCUCUUAUGAAAAGUGUCAGUUUCUAAUGGAGCAGCCAACCAGCUAGUGGUUGUGGGGGUGGCUAUUUAUAGCCUGGGAGCAUCCCGACAUGAUUUGACACUAAUGCUCUUAAAUAAUAUGACCGUUGGAGUGGAUAAGACCAAUGACUUGGCGUGGCUAUCGAAACGGUCGGAACCCUCAACUGUGAGAGUCCUUAUGUCACUCGUAUUCCUCACUUGAGGCUUUUUGGUAGGAUUAGGCUUGGUUGAGCAUCAUGAGGAAAUUCAUUCCAAAGUGUAACUUCGACCCCCUUUAACAGUACGGUGUUCCUAUUACUCAAAUGCGAAGAAAAUAAAACAGAAAGUGUAAAUCUUCAUGCUUCAAAUUCUUCACGGUGAUUUUCUUCAGAACACACCGGACUUCUCAAUAUCAGUAUCUUCAUGAGGAAUAUCAAUUUCAUCGCAGAUUCUUCGCGAUUCAUUUCUUUAGCUUCAGACCAAUUUCUUCAACUGAAGACAUACAUUUUUAGGGGUCGAUAUUCUUCAAAUAUCUCAAACUCCUCAAUGACUUAUAGAUCCUGUGUACACUCACAAACACAUUAGAUACUUAACCUAUAAGUCUUCAAACCACCAAAAUCACUAAGGGGCACUAGAUGCACUUACAACUUGCAUGAUUUUUCUAAAUAGCACAAAAAAUACUAAUAAAAUACUUCAAAAAUGUUCAACAGAGCAGUGUUAACAGGAAACUAGAAUUAUGAGAUUCUCAAUUACCACAAUUAUUUUCUAAUUAUAUUUUGUUAUCUCGUGGCAAUGCACGGGCACUCAACUAGUAAUAGUAGAUGCAGAAAGUAUCGGUCUACUUGUCUCGGACGUGAUGCCUAUAUGUAUGAUCAUUGCCUUAGAUAUCGUGAUGACUUUGCGAGGUUCUAUCAAUUGCUUGACAGUAAUUUGUUCACCCACCAUAAUACUUGCUAUUUUGAGAGAAGCCUCUAGUGAACACUAUGGCCCCCAGGGUCUACUCCACACCAUAUUUUCAGCCUUACACUUUUUACUUCGUUGCACAUUCCACCUUCAGAUCUCACAUUGCAAACAAUCUUGAAGGGAUUGACAACCCCUUUAUAGCGUUCGGUGCAAGCUCUUUUGUGUUUGUGCAGGUACUCUGGACUUGACGAGAUUCUCCUACUGGAUUGAUACCUUGGUUCUCAAUCUGAGGGAAAUACUUACUGCUCAUGUGCUGCAUCACCCUUUCCUCUUCAAGAGAAGAACCAACGGAAGCCCAAGAGACGACAGAAGGAUCUCUGGCACCACUACUAGGGAAGAACUUUUUUUGCCGUAGCAGAAGAAUUUCUCGCACCAUUGCCAGGGAGGAUCAAGUCAAGAACUCAUCCAAGUAAGUGUUGCAAACUCGUCUCUUGCAUUUACCUUUUUUGCCUCUCGUUUUCCUCUCCCACACUUCUGAAAAACAAAAAUUUACAAAAAUAUUUGCCUUUUUCGUUCGCCCUCUUCUUUCGCUUGCUUUCUGUUUGUUUGUGUUGCCAUGUGCCUUCAAUAUGCUUGCAUCGUCACUUGCUGAAAAUCUAUUGAUAUGGAUCCUCACCCACUUGCUAAUCUCUUUAAGAGAUCCACUUAUGUGGAACCAAUUGCUAGUGAGUUGAGUGCACUUGACUUUCUCUAUGGAAUUUUGCUUGAGAUGUGUGAAUCUGAAAGUCGUGAUGAAGAAAUUUAUGAAGUGAUUCACGAGGGCUGCUUGAAUGAAAAGCAUGAUUGCAAUGGUUUCACUAUAAAUCCUAUUAGUGUCAAUCAUGCUAAAAAUAUGCAAAACCCAAAGCUUGGGGAUGCUAGUUUUGCUAUGUCAACUACUUGUUGCAAUGAUCAUGAUUGGGGUAAUGAUUUUUCUUAUGAUCUUGAAAAUUUGUUUAAACCUCAUGAUGAAUAUGAUAUUUGCAAUAUUAUUGAAAGUGGGUUUGGAGAAGUCAUGACAUUAGUUGAUGAUAAUCCCACUAUUUUUGAAGAGCGUCAACUUUGCAUGCAUGUGGAUCAUGAAAAGAAUAUCCUUUGUGAUAGUUAUAUUGUUCAAUUUGAUUUUGGUCCCACAUGUAAUUUAUAUGAGAGAGGAAAAUAUUGUGGUAGAAACUUUCAUGUUACCCAAUUACCUCUUGUUAUGUGGAGAUUGCUAUUGUCUCUUUCUUCUUCCUUGCAUAUGGUGACUAUUGGUUGUCUUGACAAUCUGUUUUCCUAUAAAAUGCCUAUGCAUAGAAAGUAUGUUAGACUUAGAUGUGAUUUUCACAUGCUUUAUGAUGCUCUCGGUGUGCUUCAAUUCUUGUCUUUUGUGUGAGCGUCAUUGAACUAUCAAUGCCUAGCUAAGGGCGUUAAACAAUAGUGCUUGUUGGGAGGCAACCCAACGAAUCUAUCUUUUUCUUUCUGUUUUGUUGCGUCCACACUUUCAUAACUCUGUUGUGAUUGUGUUUUUUGUGUUUAUUUUUGUGUUUGAGCCAAGCAAAACCUUUAUGACUACUCUUGGUAAUGGUUGUUUGAUCCUGUUGGAAAAAGACAAAAACUUUUCGCUCACCAGAUGAUAUUUCAUUUUUAUUCAGAGAGAGCUUUUGAGUUGAUUCGUUUUGCUUCUCGUUGAUAUGCCUUUUUCCCAGGCAGCCGUAAUUUUUAAGAUUUUUUGAGGUACCAGAAGUAUACGAAGUAUACAGAUUGCUACAGACUAGUCUGUUUUUGAAAGAUUCUGUUUUUGUUGAGUUGGUUGCUUGUUUUGAUGAAACUAUGGUUAGUAUCGGGGGGUACUAGCCAUGGAAAAGUGAGAAUGGAGUAGCCCAACACCAAUAUAGAUAGAAUUCAAGUUUGCUACAGUACCAAAAGAAGUGGUAAUUUGUUUUCUUCUUAAGUUUUGUGUUGUGAAGUUUUCAAGUUUUGGGUGAUGUUCUCAUGGACAAAGAUAUAAGGAGUGGAAAUAGCUCAAGCUUGGGGAUACCCAAGGCAUCCCAAGCCAAAUUCAUGGACACCAAAAAGCCUAAUCUUGGGGAUGCCCCAGGAAGGCAUCCCCUCUUUCGUCUUCAAUCCAUCGGUAACAUUACUUGGAGAUAUAUUUUUAUUCACCACAUGAUAUGUGUUUUGCUUGGAGCGUCUUGUAUCUUAGUAGUCUUUUCUUUUGUUGUGUCACAAUCAUCCUUGGUGCACACCUUUUUGAGAGAGAGAUACAUGCACUCAUCGUGAUUUUGCUAGAAUGCUCAUAGUGCUUCACUUAUAUCUUUUGAGCUAGAUACUUUUGAUCUAUGUGCUUCACUUAUACUUUUUAGAGCACGGCAGUGCAUGACUUGGUAGUUGGCUUAUGCUAUGAAAGUAGUCCCAAAUGUGAUAGGUACCCAAAGAGGAUACAAAAACCUCCAUCUUCAUGUGCAUUGAGUAGAAAGAGAAGUCUUGAUUCCUCUCAAUUAGUUUUGAGACGUGGAUUCGGUAAUAUUAAGAGUUAUGUUAGUAGGGUGUUGUGAAUCUAGAAAUACUUGUGUUGAAGUUAGUGAUUCCCGUAGCAUGCCCGUAUGGUGAACCGCUAUGUUAGGAAGUUGGACCAUAAUUGAUCUAUUGGUUGUCAUCCUUUGUGUUGAGGUCGGGAUCGCGCGAUGGUUAACACUUACCAACCCUUCCCCUCGGAGUAUGCGUUUAGCACUUUGUUUCGAUUACUAAUAAAAAUUUCGCAACAACUAUGUGAGUUCUUCAUGACUAAUGUGAGUCCAUGGUAUAGAUGCACUUUCACCUUCCACCAUUGCUAGCCUCUCUAGUGCUGUGCAACUUUUGCCGGUACACAAACUCACCAUAUGCCUUCCUCAAAACAGCCACCAUACCUACAUACUAUGGCAUUUUCAUAGCCAUUCCGAGAUAUAUUGCCUUGCAACUCCCACCGUUCCGUCUGAUGACUUGUGCCGUCACUCUCAUAUUGCCAUUGCAUGAUCGUAAGAUAGCUAGCGAGAUGUUUCAACGUCAUACGCCAUGCUAGAUCGUAGCGCAUCUCGGUACACUACCGGAGGCAUUUCCUAUAGAGUCAUUAUCAUUCUAAGCUUCGAGCUGUGAGUAAAUAAAUGUGUGAUGAUCAUCAUUAUUAGAGCAUUGUCCCAUGUGAGGAAAUUAAAAAAAAGAGGCCAAAGAGCCCAAANNNNNNNNNNNNNNNNNNNNNNNNNNNNNNNNNNNNNNNNNNNNNNNNNNNNNNNNNNNNNNNNNNNNNNNNNNNNNNNNNNNNNNNNNNNNNNNNNNNNNNNNNNNNNNNNNNNNNNNNNNNNNNNNNNNNNNNNNNNNNNNNNNNNNNNNNNNNNNNNNNNNNNNNNNNNNNNNNNNNNNNNNNNNNNNNNNNNNNNNNNNNNNNNNNNNNNNNNNNNNNNNNNNNNNNNNNNNNNNNNNNNNNNNNNNNNNNNNNNNNNNNNNNNNNNNNNNNNNNNNNNNNNNNNNNNNNNNNNNNNNNNNNNNNNNNNNNNNNNNNNNNNNNNNNNNAAAAUAAAAUAAAAAAAGAGGCCUAAGAGCCCAAAUAAAAAAAAGAGAAAAAGAGAGACGGGACAAUGCUACUAUCUUUUUCCACACUUGUGCUUCAUAAUAGCACCAUGUUCUUCAUGAUUGAGAGCUUCUUGCUUUGUCACUACCAUAUGCUAGUGGGAAUCUUCAUUAUAUAACUUGGCUUGUAUAUUCCAAUGAUGGGCUUCCUCAAAAUUUCCCUAGGUCUUCAUGAGCAAGCAAGUUGGAUGCGCGCCUACUAGUUUUCCUUUUGAGCUUUCACAUACUUAUAGCUCUAGUGCAUCUCUUGUAUAGCAAUCCCUACUCAUUCACAUUGAUAUCUAUUAGUGGGCAUCUCCAUAGCCUUUUGAUAUGCCGAGUCAAUGUGAUCAUCUCCUCCUUUUUGUCUCACAACCACCACCACACUCUAUUCCACCUAUAGUGCUAUAUCCAUGGCUCGCGCUCCUGUAUUGCGUGAUAGUUAUAAAAAGUUUGAGAAAGUAAGAGUUCGAAAACAAUUACUUGGCCAAUACUGGGGUUGUGCAUGAUUUACAUUAGUUGUGUGAGGAUGAUGGAGCAUAGCCAGACUAUAUGAUUUUGUAGGGAUAACUUUCUUUGGCCUUGUUAUUUUGAAAGUUCAUGAUUACAUUGCUAGUUUGCUUGAAGUAUUAUUGUUUUCAUGUCAGUAGAAAACAAUUGUUUUGAAUCUUAUAGAUCUGAACAUUCAUGUCACGUGAAAGAAGUUGCAAAGGACAACUAUGCUAGGUAGCAUUCCACAUCAAAAAUUCAUUAUUUAUCCCUUCCCUACUCGAGGACGAGCAGGAGUUAAUCUUGGGGACGCUUGAUACGUCUCCAACGUAUCCAUAAUUUUUGAUGGUUUCAUGCUAUUAUCUUGUCAAACUUUGGAAGUUUUGCAUGCCUUUUAUAUAUUUUUUGGGACUAACUUAUUAACUCAGUGCCAAGUGCCAGCUCCUGUUUUCUCCAUGUUUUUGACCCCUUUCAGAGGAGGAUUUUGAACAGAGUCCAAACGGAAUAAAACUUCUGAAAAUAUUUUUCCAGAACGGAAGAAGAUCAGGAGACUUGAGAACCAAGGCAGGGGGUCCUCAGGGACCCCAAAACCCUCAUGGCGCGGCCAGGGGGGCGAGUCGUGCAGGCUUGUGGGCUCCGUGGGCCACCUCUACCCUAGGUUUUGCGCCGAUAUAUCCCCAAAAAUUCCACAAAAAAUCAGGAGAUCAUCGAAAGUACUUUUCCACCGCCGCAAGCUUCUGUCUCUGCAAGAUCCCAUCUAGGGCACGUUCUGGUGCCCUGCCGGAGGGGGGGUUCGGACACAGAGGGCUUCUUCAUCAACACCAUGACCUCUCCGAUGAUGCAUGAGUAGUUCAUCAUAGACAUACGGGUCCAUAGCUAGUAACUAGAUGGCUUCUUCUCUCUCUUGGAUCUUCAAUACAAAGUUCUCCAUGAUCUUCAUGGAGAUCUAUCCGAUGUAAUCUUCUUUUGCGGUGUGUUUGUCGAGAUCCGAUGAAUUGUGGAGUUAUGAUCAUAUUAUCUAUGAAUCUUAUUUGAGUUUCUUCUGAUCUCUCUUAUGCAUGAUUUCAUAUCCUUGUAAUUCUCUUCGAGUUGUGGGUUUUGUCUAGCCAACUAGAUCUAUAAUUCUUGCAAUGGGAGAAGUGCUUGGUUUUGGGUUCAUACCGUGCGGUGACCUCACCCAGUGACUGAAGGGGUAGCGAGGCACAUAUCGUGUUGAUGCCAUCAAGGGUAAAAAGAUGGGGUUUUCAUCAUUGGUUUGAGAUUAUCCCUCUACACCAUGCCAUCUUGCUUAAGGCGUUACUCUGUUCGUCAUGAACUCAAUACACUAGAUGCAUGCUGGAUAGCGGCCGAUGUGNGAGACGAUAGAAGGAUCCCUGGCACCACUGCCAGGGAAGAACUUUUGUUGCCGUAGCACCAUCCCAGUGCCAUCUUGUGAAGGCAAAAACCCUCCCUAUGUACUAGACAGAGCUGAGGCAUCGGGAAUCCCAUUCCCGUCGAGGGGAGUCAUAUACACAGGCUCGCCGACGGAUAUCGAGGGGAUGAAAGAUUUCCCUAGUGGCCUUGCGAGAGGGGAAAGAACUUCGUCUACGUGUGGAUGGUUACUAUGAUAGUUCAAUUAAUUAUACCAAAAAACACAUAAUUUAUUUUGAGAAACCUUACAAAUGCAGACAUUCACAUACAUGCAUGUACACCAUCCCUUUCGAUGUACACACUCACACUCUACGUCUAUGAACAUUUUGAAGAGAGUGAGCCAGCAGACCUUAUGAUAAAAUGAAAAAUAUUUUUCCCGCACCACUCAAAUGGCAUCCUUAGACAAUUAGUAAUCAAGAAACCUUGUGCUUAAAAUGAAACCAAAAAUAAGGAAAGCUGGAAAAAGGUUGUGUGGCAACCACCCUAUGACAGGAAGGACUGAAACUUCGAGCAGACACAAUGCAUCCGACGGCCACAACCUUUGAAAUAGAUAUGGCAGUGGCUGCAACAAGGCCAUUACCAUGUACAACAAAUAAAGUGUGAGUUUACCAAAACAAUGCCUUCAACAAACCCAUUGCCAGGUAUAACCGAUAAAGGCCUGACCAUUAGUUUUCACCCUCGGAAUCAAAACUCGGUACUCGUGGACCACCACAAAAGGUGAAGUCCUCCAGUGUUGCCACCCCCGCUUGCUGAGACCGCUGUUGCAAGUCACCAAACACCUCCCACAUAGUCUUCAUCGCAUCCAAUAGACCCUUCCAUCAAAGCUUAAGACCUCCAAUCACAACGGCUAUGACUUUCUCCACCUCUAUUCAAGCCUUAGAAAUCAUAACAUAGACAUGUCCCAUGACACCCGUAAGAAAUCGAAGCUUCGCGCCACGCGCUCUCGGCGUUGUGUUUGAUAAUAAUAUUAGCGCGUGCAACAGGAGCCUUUCUGGUCUAGAUAUCUAGGGACGACAAACGUCAUUCUGUAUAGAUCUCUGAGGGGGAAGACCGGAAUGCGUCAGCGAUCAGAUCCAAGAGGUCGACAUUCGGUAGAAAGACAACUAGGCGGAACAACAGUGCACCAUUGUUAGGCCGAACCACACUCACCCGCGUCCAAAGAAAAACGAGCCACUCCGCAUGAGACCAAACGCUUCAGCCACCGUACCGAGCAUCACUCCGCAUGAGGCCAAACACCCCUGAACAACCUCCACCUUAGGCACCCAUGGCGCCAGGUCUCGAAUCCGCUCCCGGUGAGGAACGAGUCAUCGUACGACGUAGCAUCAAGCAGAGACUAUGCAUGCACUCUGGUCUAUUCGAUCCGUAGUGAUCACGAUGUUCAUCUACGUGAUUGCCAUACCACUAAGAGGUCAUGGUUGAUCGCAUCAUUUUGCAGGGUGCUUCAUCAUCAUGAAAUGAAUGAAUACGCAUCUUCCUUUUUGGGAGAAUAGCUCCCAUGCGACGUUUUUGAUGUGUGUUAUCUCUCAUGCGACGUCAUUGGUUGUAAUGGCUCUUAUGCGACAUCUCCCAGUGCAGAAAUAGCUGUCGUGCGACACUGCUGCCUAAUCGAAAGCCACAUGUUUAAAACUCGAAUCAGGUGAGCCCCUACGUAACAAAGCGGGACCCACAGCAUGGGAUCCAGUAACUUAUCCAGCUCAGCAUUGGUACAAGAGCAAUACCGCGACCUUCUCAUCCUCGCCGCGCUCCCCGACCGUUGUUGUUCUUAUUUUCCGGCGACGACGGGCAUCAACGUUGUUCGGGGCCGCGACCUAGCAAUGUCGAGCUCCGCUUCAGCCUCCCACCGCUCAUGGUCGCGCUACGGCAAAGUGCCCAUGACAAGGUGCCCUGCAUGUCCACGGACCGCACCCCUAAAGCGGCUAGUCACAACGACCGACAAGAAUGGCAACCUUGGGCGGGAAUUCGUGAAAUGCGAGAGCAAACAAGAGCAGGGAAAGGUGAUAUUUUACUUCUCAAUGUGCCAAUUUCGGUUUUUGUCCCCCAAUUUCAUAUUUUUCAUCGGAUUUGGGAUUUAGGGUUCAUCUUUGCGAUUUCAGAAAUUGAAGCAAUGCGCCCAUUUUGAGUGGCUAGAUGAGUACAUAGAGCGGAUUCAACUUGAGGGUGCUUCACAGGAGCUCGAUUUACCGUUGGAGGCGGAGAAGUUUGGAUCUGGGGCCCCUGGAUCUGGCAAUUCCAUUCGUGCUACUGUGGGGGAUGCAGCAGGGAUGGCAGAGCUGAAGAAGCUCAAUAAGAAGAUGAAGAAACUAAUCGAAUUGAAGAAGCAGGGCAAUUUGAUGGCCGGAAUUUUUUAUGUUUGUGUAAUUUCUCUCGCAUUUGUUUAUGUGAUGAUAAUUAGUCGUUAGUGAAUAGAUCGGGUAUCAUCUGUAAUCGUAAUGAUAUGGAUGUUUGAAUAAAACUAUUGCGAUGUACGAAUUCGGCAUGUUUUCUCGUCUUCUCCACUCUGUUUCGGCCCCGUUUUUACAGUUCUGCAGUUCGUCGUCAGUUUCAGUUUCGGUGGUAGAGGGAAAAAAGGAAAAAAAAAGGUUCGUCGACAAUUCCCCGAAAAGGCCCGGCCCAUGUAGAAGGUAGGCAGGGCCGAAUAGAACAUAUUCAGGUCCAUUGACAAAAAAGGUGUAGCUAGUGCAAAAAAAAGUGCACACGGUCAUUGACAUCGAUAUAUGCAGGUCCAUUGAUAAAUAAGUUGUAUCUAGUGCAAAAAAAAGUGCACAGGGCCGAAUAGGAAACCAUCGCUUAUUAUAGUACUCCCUCCGUCACAGUUUACAGGGUGCGCUUCAACAAUCUCGCAUGCACUGGUGGAGACCCGGCGAACAGAACUGCAUGCACUUAUUCCAUCCCCCGCAUACAUAUCUGCAUGGAGAGAAAAUUGUGGGCUUUAUCCCCCCCCCCCCCCCCCGCAUGCAGUUAUUCCACCCCCCGCAUACACAUCUACAUGGAGUUAAACCAAACACGUCUAAAAUCUCUACGUGCCUAGGUUGCAGUGCACCUUCUAAUAAGACUAAUGCACUAAAACGGAGGGAGUAUCAUUUGACCGCACACAAGAAUAAUAUGACUAAUGCAUAUAAUAUGACUUGCAUGUCAUAUACUCCCUCCGUUUCUUUUUAGUCCGCAUACAAGAAUGUGCACCGAAACGGAGGGAGUAUCAUUUGACCGCAUACAAGAAUAAUAUGACUAAUGCAUAUAAUAUGACUUGCAUGUCAUAUACCCCCUCCUUUUCUUUUUAGUCCGCAUAUAAUAUGACUAAUGCAUAUAAUAUGACUUGCAUGUCAAAGUCAAAGUUAGCCUCGAAAAGCGCAUUUGGGGAGUAGGUUGUUAUGGUGUUUUCAAAGUUUGUGCAAUGGUGUUUUCGAGCAGUUCUCUGUCGUUUCUAUCGGGAGACAUUAAUAUAUUGCAUAAUGCAUAAAACAUUGAUAUGUUCCGAGUAGGUUGUUAGGGUUUAGGGUUUAGGUUUAUGUGAAAAAUGUUCUUCCCUCCUCACUCAUGGUUCUCCGGCAAAGAUAGUGACAAUCCAAACAGCCCCUAAUAUAGUGCAUAAUGCAUAAAACAUAAAACAUAAAACUAGAUAGAAAUAUUACGAUAAAACAUAAAACAUAAAAUAUAAGGGGCAUCAGGUACCCUAGUAGCAUACAACAUAUAAAAAUACUAGAUAAAAUAUAAAAAGACGGUCACACACGCCCCAACUACUAGAUAAAAAUAUAAAAACACUCCUCGGCCAGCAGAAGACUCCUCGGCCAGCAGAAGUCUCCUUGGCCCCUCCUUCGUCGGCGCCCCUCACUCGCUGUUCUCCGGGGGUGGCAUCUGGUAGGGGAGGGCGUGCAUGUCGUUGGGCUCGGGGAAGAUGUGGUGGAAGUUGGUGAAGAUGUUGUAGGUGGUGAACGCGAUGAACUCGCAUCCACACCAAAACACCUGGCCGAGGAGGUGGUACGUGUCGUAGCGGUUGGGGAAGGUGACGUAGAGGCCGAUGACGAAGCCGUUGGGGUUCCCAUCGACCUGCUCGUGGAGGUGGAACAUGGGCGGAGUGCCCGGAGGGAGGUUGCGGUAGCCGGCGUGGAGGAAGAAGCUAGCCAACUCUCUAGGGCCCCUCCACCUUGAGAUGGCCCAGAUCCUCUGGCCAUUCUCGACCACUUCGCCGGGCGGGAACUAUCUCUCCGGCACGGUGCGAGGGCGACGGUAGGUCCGGCCGUUGAAUUGCAUCGUGGCUCGAGUGCGGGUUGGAUUUCGCUCGGAAAGAAGAAGAGGAGGAGGCUUGAGAGGUGAGUGUGAGAGGGAUGAGGAUAUGGUGCCCUUUUAUAGCCCCGUUGCAGCCGUAGUCAAUGUACACGAUUGAUCAUUUUCUCUCCUCCGCGUGGUGGAAUAAUUAAUGGGCGUGCAAAAAAAGGCAGAGCAUCCAAAAAGGCACGGGCGGCACAGGCGAGAUGCUUCGUUUUUAAUUGCCGUGAAAACUGUGUCACCAACGCGUCCGUCCCGUGUUCUGAGGUUCGUGCAUGCAAUUGUUAAAAACAGCUUAGAUGCGAUGUACCGCUGCGCCCGUGCCGCCCGUUUUAAUGCGUUGCUGCAUGGCGGCUAGACUGUGUUCAUUUGGCAGAAUAGCUAGGUUGCGACACCGUUGCAUGGCAUGCAGGGUGGCCCAUCUCGCUGCGACGCACACCAGGCUCUGCCGGGCCGAUCCGCUCGGCCCAACGGUCACUGAGAUGCUCCCCCGCUCAACGUUAUCCGCUCGGCCCAACGGUCACUGAGAUACUCCCCCACACCCGUGGCCUAUCCGACGGCCGCAGUUUGGCAUUAGGGUUAGAUCGACGGUGGACAUUUCGCGUUAGGGUUAGAUGGGAUUUGGAGGCAGUCAACGGGGUUUUGAAAGGUUUGACCGAACAUUCAAAUAUGUGUAACUAAUUCAAAAAAAAUCUAAAAAAUGAAAAACCAGCGCAUAUAGUCUUGUUAUGUUACGUAGUUAUGAUAUAAAAUGAUAAACUUGAUGUAAUGAUCUUUGCAUAAAAAAACCUUCACAAAUUGGACUAUCGCGACUGAGGUUGCAUAGAGUUCAAAAGAGUGAGAAGAGGGUUUUAGGUUUUGAAAAUUCAAAAAAACAGAAACCCUCACCUUUUAGCUUCAUUUUGGAGUGACUAAGCACGAUGUGAAGUUAUUUUUGCAUUUUGAAAUUUUUAAACUUGUUGGUGACUUUGUAUUAAAGGGUGUUUUUCAAAGAUAAAUUAAUAAUAUGAAUACUUAUUCAAAAAAAGGUGAGACUUCGUAUUGAUCAUAUAUAGGUAUAAUAUAAGCGAAGACAAUCUUUUUGGGUGAUUUUGAGAAGGUGUUAGGGUUAGAUGGGGUUUGCAGGAAGUCAACAUGGUUUUGAAAGGUUUGACUGAACAUUCAACUAUGUGUAACUAAUUCAAAAAAAAAUCUAAAAAAUGAAAAACCAGCGCAUUUAGUCUUGUUAUGUUACAUAGUUAUGAUAUAAAAUGAUAAACUUGAUUUAAUGAUCUUUGCAUGAAAAAACUUUCACAAAUUGGACUAUCUCGACUCAGGUUGCAUAGAGUUCAAAAGAGUGAGAAGAGGGUUUCAGGUUUUGAAAAUUAAAAAUAUCACAAAACCUCACCUUAGCUUCAUUUUGGAGUGACUAAGGAGGAUCUCAAGUUAUUUUUUCAUUUUAAAUUUUUAAACUUUUUUUGUUGCUGACUUUGUAUUAAAGGGUGUUUUUUCAAAAAUAAAUUAAUAAUAUGAAUACUUAUUCAAAAAAAGGUGAUACUUCGUAUUGAUCCUAUAUAGGUAUAAUAUAAGCUAAGAAAAUCUUUUUGGGUGAUUUUGAGAAGGUUAAAAAAAGCGUGCUUAGAAAUGGGGUCGUUUUCCCUUACUUUGGAGCCUGUUUGGACAACAUUUUCAGUGACUAUGAGUUGGACUUCGCAAAAAGGGUUGGAUUUAUGAACUAAAGUGCAUAGUAGUAUAUAAAAAAUUGAAACAUCACAAAACAAACAAAUGAACUCCAAAAAUAUUGGAGAUAGGUUCAAAUUUGAAUGUCGGUUCAAAUUUGAAUUUUAUUUUCAUGUCAAAUCAACAAAAUAGCACAGAAGUUUUACAUCAAAGAACAUAAGUUUUCACAUCAAAUGACAACAAAUUUAAGUUUUCAAAUCAAAUCACAUCACAUUUGAAUAAUUUCGACUCUAUUUCUUUUGCUUCUUUCUACCACUCGAUUUCUUCUCCUUUUUUCCACUGUUUGGUUCCACGGCGCACAGUUUGUUGAUGCUGAUACAUUUGGUAUUCUUGCCAACAACUCCACUAGGCCCCCUCAACUUUUGCACCUGACCAUGUCCCACUUCUUCAGUUUGCACUUCUGCAGAUUGAGUAGAUGGCACACAUUGUUCAACUUAUUCAGUUUGCAACUCAACAAUUGGCAGCACAACCUCCAAACAUGGCAACACAGCUGUCAAAGCAGAUUUAGUAACAGUUUCAGUUUGCAACUCAACACUUGGCAGCACAAUCUCCAAACAUGGCACAACAUCCACGCAUGUCAGCACAACAGUUGCUUCAUCUGCAACAGUUUCAGAUUGUCCUAGCGCCUGCAAAAAAGAUUCAGUAACAGUUUCAGUUAGCUCAUGUUCAGCAGUAACAGUUUCAGUUUGCUCAUGUUCAGCAGUAACAGUUUCAGUUAGCUCAUGUUCAACAGUAACAGUUUCAGCAGUAAUAGUUCUCUUCCUUCUAAAGCCAUUGAGUCUUGCUUUUUUCACUGGCCAGCAUUGUUCAACAACAAGAGGUGGGCCUUUUUCUGCACGCUUCCUCCUAAGAUAUAAAGCAUUUCACUUGGUUAGAUCCUAGAACAAGUAGCAAAAUCAAAACUUGCAAAAACAGUAACAUAAAAAUACUUUGGCCUCUGAGGAGUGUAGAUGCAUUUGGAUGAACCAAUUCAGUGCCCAAGUACCUCACACAACUUGCACCUAUUUUUGUUACCUUGUUGAGCCCUUUUGGGAUUUUCAUUCUUUUCCUUUUCCCCUUCCUACUACAACCACCUUUCUCAAACCAAUCUUUGAAUCUGCUCUGUUUUGGCCUCCCAACCUUUCUUCUAGUGACAGGGGACACAAGGUAAAUUCUAUUUCCACCUCAGGCCACUGAGAUUGGUCAGUCAGUGCAGGAAUCUGACUUGGAUAUGCAGCUUUGGAUUUUUGUACUGAAUAAUACUCAUGCAAAUAGGGGUGCAUAUUUAACCUGGGUUUAGAUGCCAAAAAAAGUAUUGCAUGCUCACAUGGUUUUCCAGUGUGUUGCCACUCUUGGCAAGUGCACUCAUGCAACUCAGUAUUUACCACGUGCCUCUUGUCACUCUUUGUAUCUCUAACUUCUGCACCCCACAAGGAAGAUUUCUCAAUAGAUAGAUGUGAAAGAUUUCUACUCUUGUUGACCACCUGUUGUACCACUGCUGGAAGCUUGUCCCCUUCCAAAAUAUUAGCAAUUUUUCCUCUCAACUCCCACAAAUGCAUGAUCAUGAUCCUUAUUUGGCCCACCAUGUCAUGCACAGGCAAGUCUUUCAAAUCCUUCACUUUGUGGUUAAAACUUUCUGCCAAGUUGUUAUUGAUAUGAUCACAUUUUAUGGCAGUAUUAAAACCUGAUCUGUACCACAACAGAGAAUGGUGGUUGUUCAACCAUGAAGCAAAUUCAUUAUCACUACAUGAUGUCAAUAUCUUACCAAGGUGAUAGGAAUGUGUCUCUCCGGUGUACGAUCUUGCUGCCGGCCACAUGCGCCCAAAUCCAUCUACGCAAGGCUUCAAACACAUAAAAAACUUGCUGAAAAAACCUUGCCAUCCUCUGUUACCUCUGUAUCCAUCUCCACCACGCUUCUAGGUGACCUCUUCUCCACCUCUGCUUUAAAACUAUACAACAUCCUAAAUGUAUUUUCCCAGUCACCAUACAAUGAUUUCAUGGCCCUUUGUUUUGCUUUCCACACUAUGGUAUAUUGCAGUUGGAUGGGGUAUAGCUUCUCCAAGUCAACUUUAAGCCUCUUUGUAGUACUGUUUGGAGUCUUGGCUAAAAUAGGAGUAAUCUUCUCUGUAAUCCAAAGUUGUGAUGUCAUCUUUGAAACUCUCUGUGAAGUGGUCAUACAUGUAUGCUCGUGUGGUAUUUGAUUUACCGUUACUCUACUUCCAUCAGGUUGUAGUCUGGCAGAUAUGUACCAUUUGCAAGCAUUGCCACCACCAUCAUAACCUUUGCACCGAGCAUAAAAUUUCUUUCGAUCAGUCCACAUAUUCUUGGCCUCGAACUCUUUUUUCACUGCAUAGGUCCUGAAAGACAUCCUAAACUCAACCAUGCUUGGCCACAACUUUCCCACCUCAAUAACUGGGUUCUCUUUGUCAGACAAACAAACCAGCUCAUUAUCAUUUGUAUCAUCCACAUCAUCUGCAGCCAUUCUCAUCAGCUCUUGUUCAUCCUUAUUUGCAUUUCUAGGCCCGUGUUACCACCAGCAGGCAAAGAAUUGUCAUCCUUCUCCUUAUCUUUGUCAUCAACUUGAAUGCCAAACAUUUCAACCAUAUCAAUGUCAGAUAUUGGUGCAAUUACCAAAUCUGUUUUUUCAUUGGACUCUACUACAUUCCAGUCAACAACAAUCUUCCUAGCACCAUGGGUUCCCUCCUCUCCAUCUGCAUCAAUCCCUGUAUCAUCAUCUAGUACAGUCGGUUCAGUCAACAAUGCCAACAUACUAUUCUUUUGUGAAACCCACACAUCAUCUUCCAACUGUGCAGCCAUCUUUGAUGGCACAUAACCAACUCUGGAAUUAGUUUGCAGAUCAAUUAGCUCUGCAUAAAAUGUUACUUGUUUGCAUGCCCACCGUUCUUGCUGAUCAAUUUCAGCAACCAUGGAUUCUCCAUCUUCAAUUCUAACAUAUUCACCAUAAUAGUUGUCGAAACGUUGCAGAGAUAUCUCUUGUUCUGGACCCCAAACAAUACUCUCCCCAAUUCUCUCCACCAAAUUUCCCACGGCCUUCUCCUUCAUGCCCUCUAAGUCCUGGGGAUCAACAUCUGCACUUCGACAUCCAACCUCACGGAGGUAUCUCUAUAAAUGUCUUGGACACUGCCAUCACUAAGCUUGGUUUUACAGGAAAAAAUGCACUAUAAUUGCGAAUGUGGUGGUAGAACCAGAACCUCCCCUGUUUUGUCAAUGGCGGGCAGCGGCAGUGUAAGACGGUCACUAUCAAAUCGAGUUUGAUAACAGCUAAAAGAGAAAAGAGGGAGGGGCGGCAUUACCGAUUUGAAGCACUGUCUCCUCGCUCCAUCUAAUUCAGCCCACGCGCUCCUAUCCAAUCGAGAUUCUAAAUCGCCAAGAAAUAGAGCAUGAGGCCACAGAUCUAUCCAAAAAUCUGGGGAUUGGGACUAGGGUUUCGAAAAUACUCACUCGCAAUAGAUCUGCCGCUGCCGAGACAGGCGCUCCACCACCGCGAAGAAGAAACUGCUACCUCUGCCGGAGAAGAUGCACACGGCGGCGCUGCUCGCCCAGUCGUGCACGAUCGAGUCGAGUAUGGUCAGACAGUCACCGAUCGAGUAGUGGACGGUUGACUCUUGACGACGUGGCCGUAGGUGGACCCCACCAGUCAAAGCACAUUCCUAACCAAAUCUCAGCCUAACUAACAGCCAGCCAGCCCCGUAAACGGGUUGAGUUGCUUAAGCUAUUUCUGCGCUGGAAGAUGUCGCAUGAGAGCCAUUACAACCAACGACGUCGCAUGAGAGAUAAUUCAACUCAACGACGUCGGAUGGGAGCUAAUGGCCCCUUCCUUUUUUGUGGGCUAGAUUCAACGAUGAUACAAAAUCAUGAUGGACUCACCAUACGUAAUUUAUGAGUUCACUCGGGACGACAUGGACAGAGCAAAAUGGACAACAGAGGAUUCUAAAACUUUAGCUAUGGAUUAAAACAAAGUCUUACCUUGCUUGGACACCCAAUUAAGUAGCAUUUCUACUCACAAAAAAAAAAGCAUUUCCAACACUUUUGUAGUCCAAUGAAUAAUUGUGAAUAAAACAUAUAAAAGGUCAUGAUGACACACAUCACACAUGCAGCAAAUAUAUGUUAAUUACCUGCAUGAAAUGUUAUAAAAUGAAGCACCAAAGUUUACAAGCAAGCAUAAUUGGUUGACAAGUUUGUAUUAUAUAAAAGUGGAUAAAGGAUGUACGAUUAACAUUCGUCGUGCCUGUGCCACUGAACCUAAAUCGCCCAUCAACAAAGGAACUUCUUCGUGCACCUUUGAAGCGUUACCCGUCGGAAUAUGAAGCGAAAAGAAUAAUAGAGUACAUGCAAGGCUGGAAAAGGAUUUGUGGCAAUCCCACAUUGACACGGACGACUGAAAUUUUCGGCACACACAACGCAUCCAACGGCCAUGCCUCUUACACUAAUCCGGGGAGAUAAGGAAACCAGGCAACCAACAAACGCCAGCCACCCCUUCCACAUCUUGAUUAAAGAUAGGAGCUCACAUGGCUAUAUAUACCGUGGUGAACAGGCAAUGGGGGCCUCAAGUGUAGCCGGCAUCCUCCUCUCUACAGUUAAUACAGUACCAUGGCCCCCGCCGUGAUGGCUUCGUCGGCUACCACCGUCGCACCCUUCCAGGGGCUCAAGUCCACAGCUGGUCUCCCUGUCAGCCGCCGCUCCAGCGCCAGCCUCGGCAGCGUCAGCAAUGGCGGAAGGAUCAGGUGCAUGCAGGUAUGUCGGGGCACAAAACUGAUAUGAGUUUCUUCCACAUUACAAUUACUGCACUUAGCAGUUACUAGCACUAAGUGUUAAGCGUUCCAUAAUUUCCAAUCAUUCAGGUGUGGCCGAUUGAGGGUAUCAAGAAGUUCGAGACCCUGUCUUACUUGCCACCCCUCACCACGGAGGCCCUCCUGAAGCAGGUUGACUACCUGAUCCGCUCCAAGUGGGUGCCCUGCCUCGAGUUCAGCAAGGUUGGCUUCGUCUUCCGUGAGCACAACAGCUCCCCCGGGUACUACGACGGCCGAUACUGGACAAUGUGGAAGCUGCCUAUGUUUGGGUGCACCGACGCUACACAGGUGCUUAACGAGGUGGAGGAGGUCAAGAAGGAGUACCCUGACGCUUACGUACGUAUCAUCGGCUUCGACAACCUGCGGCAGGUGCAGUGCGUCAGCUUCAUCGCCUUCAGGCCACCGGGUUGCGAGGAGUCCGGCAAGGCAUAAACUACGAGGUGAAAGAAUGGCCUAUGUCGUAUGAAGGUCNGCAAGGCUGGAAAAAGGAUUUGUGGCAAUCACACAUUGACAUGGACGACUGAAAUUUUCGGCACACACAACGCAUCCAACGGCCAUGCCUCUUACACUAAUCCGGAGAGAUAAGGAAACCAGGCAACCAACAAACGCCAGCCACCCCUUCCACAUCUUGAUUAAAGAUAGGAGCUCACAUGGCUAUAUAUACCGUGCUGAACAGGCAAUGGGGGCCUCAAGUGUAGCCGGCAUCCUCCUCUCUACAGUUAAUACAGUACCAUGGCCCCCGCCGUGAUGGCUUCGUCGGCUACCACCGUCGCACCCUUCCAGGGGCUCAAGUCCACAGCUGGUCUCCCUGUCAGCCGCCGCUCCAGCGCCAGCCUCGGCAGCGUCAGCAAUGGCGGAAGGAUCAGGUGCAUGCAGGUAUGUCGGGGCACAAAACUGAUAUGAGUUUCUUCCACAUUACAAUUACUGCACUUAGCAGUUACUAGCACUAAGUGUUAAGCGUUCCAUAAUUUCCAAUCAUUCAGGUGUGGCCGAUUGAGGGUAUCAAGAAGUUCGAGACCCUGUCUUACUUGCCACCCCUCACCACGGAGGCCCUCCUGAAGCAGGUUGACUACCUGAUCCGCUCCAAGUGGGUGCCCUGCCUCGAGUUCAGCAAGGUUGGCUUCGUCUUCCGUGAGCACAACAGCUCCCCCGGGUACUACGACGGCCGAUACUGGACAAUGUGGAAGCUGCCUAUGUUCGGGUGCACCGACGCUACACAGGUGCUUAACGAGGUGGAGGAGGUCAAGAAGGAGUACCCUGACGCUUACGUACGUAUCAUCGGCUUCGACAACCUGCGGCAGGUGCAGUGCGUCAGCUUCAUCGCCUUCAGGCCACCGGGUUGCGAGGAGUCCGGCAAGGCAUAAACUACGAGGUGAAAGAAUGGCCUAUGUCGUAUGAAGGUCUUUUGUGAACUUCACUUUUGUCCACGACUCUGCUUUCCGACCAGAGCAUAAUUUUCUUCUCUAUGAUCUGUGUAUGUACGAGCAUAGGUUGUGGAGCAUAUAUGCAUAUGUAAAUUCUAGCACCGCCUACACAUAUACAACACCUGUGUCAUAUUUAUAAUAUAUACAACAAGCGGACCAUUGUCUUGCUGUUAAUUAUCGGAAAAGUUUAUUUUAUUUAGCACUGCAAUGGAUGUCUCACAGCUAGUGGGUGGAAGAUUUCAGUAUUUGACAUUAAGACCCACUGAUUGACAAUUGCAAUUUUCAGUUUCUUUACUUAUAUCAAUAACAAAAUAAUUGUGGUAUCUUUUCCAUGUCACUACCAUCAUUUUCAUCGGUUUUUGCUAGUAGAAUAGGAUGACACAUAUUCUUAGUAGAGACACUUACUAAAGAACGUGUGAUGGUCUGGAUAAUAAGCAUCUAACUGACUAGAUAUAGCAACAACAUUCGAACCAUAUUAUGGAUCUAUUGGAAUAAAUCUCGAACAUGCAUUGCAUGAGCUCCUUGAGAAGGAUUGUAAUCAUGCUAGUGAAAAUCAAGAAAAAAAACUCGGAUUUCUGUAAGUACUAUGGAGCAACAGCUCCACCGUCCUUUAUUCCAUGAAAACAAAAGCAGGCAAGAAAUAUUUACAAAGGGAACAAAGGAAAAAGAAAAAAACACUUACCUACUUACCUAUUUAUCUAAUGGAGGUUAGAGCAACCUCAACCGGACGAUCCAAAUGAAUGUGUGUUUUGCCCACGUUCUGACCGUUUGGGACGGCAUGUCCGCCCUGUUUUUCUUUUGGGUCGGCCGUGUGCCCAAGCGCCGACCAUCUUUCGUUAGCACGACAGGCUUGCAGGCAUUUUUUGAUCGCUUUGUCAUGUAUGUAUACAAUUUGAUCCUAUAUUAACAAAGUUAUGUAAAAAUACAAAACGUUUCAUAGUUCAGACACCACAUAAAUAUCUCAUACACUAGUAGAGAAAUGAGCUAUAGUCCCGGUUGAACACGACCUUGGACUAAAAGUCCCACCACGUGGCAGCAAGUGCGCUGGGGGUGGGGACCUUUAGUCCCGGUUGGUGACACCAACGAGGACUAAAAGGCAGCCAUGCGCUAGCACUGCUAAGCCCUGUGGUUUAUGUUUUUUNNNNNNNNNACACAUAUUGAUAUAAAACAUCAGUACAAAUUUUGGAAGAACGACAUCCAACAUCAAUACAAAUUAGAUGGAUGCAAGAGACCAAGUUGAAUUAGAGGAAAACACGAUGUUGCGAAUCGCAACAUGGUGUUUUCCUCUAAUUCAAUUUGGUCUAUUGCGUCCGUCUAAGGAAGGAUCGUCGUGCCGCUGAGAUGGUUGGCCGGUAGCUCGCUGGAUCUCAAAUUCCUCUAGUUUCGCUAAUCUUGCAGUGAGCUUCUGCAUUUCGGUUGCUUACUCUUUUUCUUUCUCUGUCGGCUUCUAUAACCAUCGCUUCGGGAAACCCAUGCACCGACGGAACAGAGCAUGAUUUGCCUCGUGUUCGUCUAGGGUGUUCGGGAUUCCCGAGGGCCUUUGUCAGCUCGUCCUUCUCUCUAUGGGGAAUGAUAGUUCCUUCCCGCGCUGCCUUGAAUGCAUCCUCAAGCUUGGUAAUGGGUAUUGCAAGUAAUUCGUUCGUCCAAACACACUUCCUUGAUUCUGGGUCCAAAGUUCCCCAAACCCCGAAGAACCAAGUCCUUGACCGAUCUGGCCAGUGCAAUGUCACUAGUUGGAACCCUUCAGCAAGCAGGUCUUGCUCAACAUUGUCCCACAACGGCCGGGCUUUGCUGUCGCCACCUGACCCCGUGGUAUGGUGAUACUUCUUCAAUGCAUCAUUUUUCUUGUUUGUCUCUGACCUUUGCUUACACUUGUUCGAUUUCUUGUAGGCCACAAAUGCGGUCCAGUGAUCUCUGAUCUUCUUGUAUUGACUGACGAACUCUAGAGUUUCGUCUUUCUCGAAAAACUUUGUGUUCAAAUGUUUCCUCCAGUUUUUCAAUAGUUCUGGCAUCUUCUUAAGAGCAAACGCCUUGACCUUUCUCUCUAUAACUUUGUUAUUCGGAUCCUCCCCAGGCGGUAGGCUGAAAUUUGUCAUCAGCGAGGUCCAAAGAUCAUCUUUCAGUCUAUCAUGGACAUACGAAACUUCAGGGUCCUUCUUCUUAUUCCAUUUUGUGGAUUGUGAUUGGGACGCUGUCCCUAACAAGAACUCCGCACUGAUGUACAAAUGUGUUCUUCGUCCACGUGGGAGCAAUCGGUUGGCCAUUUUCCGCGACUUCUGUGAUCGUGAACCUUUCAUCGUCGCACAACCUUUUCUUCGGGCCUCGUCUCGUUACGGAAGUUUGGCUCGAUCCAGAGGGAUAAAAGAAGAAAGAAGCGUUCAUAUAUGUACAUACCAAAACAAUUAAUGCAUCAAGUCAGCACAUGCUUAAUUAAUAUAUAUGAAUAUAUAUAGAUAUACCAUGGCGUACUUUGCAAUAGUUAAGGAUCCCUCCUCUGUUCGGUCACCGGAGCCGUCACCAUGAUCUCCUUCCUCCGACAUUCAGUCACCAGAGCCGUCAUGACCUACUUCCUCCUCCAUUGUUGGAUCACCGGAGCCAUCAUCCUGUCCUUCUUGACCAUCGGUGUCGUUGAGAAACGACAAGGGAUCACCUCCGUCACAGAUUAUAUCCGCCAACAUCUCUUCUUGUUCCAAGUCUCUUUCCAUAGUUUCUGCAAAUAUUACAACAUGGCAAUAUACAAACAUGCAUGAGAGAUGGAUUAGUGGAAAAGAUGGACUUAAUAUCACAAGAAGGAAUCAUAUGCAUAUGAGCAAUAGAUUAGUGGCGAACAUCGUCGAGGACUCCUCCCCCUCAAGUCUGAUGAGUCGUCCUAUAUAUCUUUCGAGUGAGGAUACUUUGCGGACCGCCUCUCUCAUGCACGUCCGAUGUCCCCCCUCAUGUCGAAGUUAUCGGGGUUAUACUUUCAGGAGAGUACACUAUAUAUUAUUAUACAUAACAACUACGAGUAGAGGCGGGAGGGGGUAGAUCGACAAUGACGCUCUUUCUUCUAGGGUUUGGGUGACCUCGAUAGUUGGUCGGGCGAGCGGACCGCCUCUUUGUUAUGUAUGUGAGACGUCCCCCCUCAUGUUGUCAUUCUAGUAUUGUUUCACUAUUUUAGUAAAAAAGAGAUUUGUAAAUUUUUAUUCAUACUUCAUGCUGAAUGGAUUUGUUCUAGUUCUUCUCAUUUCUUGUUGGGCUUUCGCACCUGCUUUUUUCCUAUUAAGAAUAUAUCAACUAUAGGAAUGGGAGCGUCACAUUUACCUUUAAAAAAAUAGCUUCACAUUUUCAUUUCAAAAAAGGACUUGUUAUCAUGUCUCUGGUGCAUAGACUUAUAGACAAAAUGAAUACAAGAUUUAUAUUAAGAAUACAAGACUUUCUAUUAAGAAUACACAACAUUAAUUCUUUGGAAGGCAGUGAAGAAACCUCUAUUUUCCCUCCAGUGCGAAGGGCUUAUUUCGUACAUAUGGUUUAUAUGUUGCAGGGAACAGUUCCAUCAUGGUGACGGUGUAAUUUCGAUCAACCUUACAAAAUGGAAAUAGCCAGUACAGUGGAUGAUAAUUUAGCCUUGAUUACUAAAGGGUACCGAGCUAUGAGUUACAAGUAGGCAUGCAGUGAGCCCUCUUUGAUCUCCUUAAUUAUUUUUUGCUUUUUCACGUGUUUAUGUCGCUGCAGUGGAGAGCACGACUGUAAAAUAUCUUAUGUGUAUACCCAAGCAUGGAUCAGACAACUUAACCUAUCCAUCACAGAUCACUGCGACUAUGGCAUGUGGAUGGCCAAGAUUUAUACACAAGAUGAAUAUAAGAUGAAUACACAAGAUGAACUAGAGGAUAAUGCUUUCCUCUCAAUUCUUUACAUUAGCUCGGAAUAAAAAUAUCACAAAUGAAAAUUUUGUAAUAAUUUCUUUAGGUUUCAGAAUUUGCAAAUUUCUCUAACUUUGAUAACGAAAUAUGCCUGAAGCAGUACCAUGUGAAUAUUAUGAGCAUAAUCAUCCUCAAGCACAAAAAGAAUGCCGCACAAUAUUGUAACCGAAAGAAAACGGCGGAGUCAACCAGCAAAGUGGCGGCGCGAGCGGCAUUGGGGACGGGGUCAGCGUCGGCAUCGGGGUGGGGCAGCAGCNGUGGCGGUGCCGGUGACGACAUCAGGGUCGGCGAAGAGGAGGGGAUCGGGGCGACGCUCACAACAACGAGGCAUCGGCGACGGUGUCGGGGAAGGGCUCGGCAACGGCGUGCGUCGGGGAAGGGCUCAGCGACGGCGCAUGUCAGGGAAGGACUCGGCGACGUCGUUGGUCGGGGAAGGGCUCGGCGAUGGCGAGCUCCGACAGCCUCACAUCGUCGUGGUGUUGUGUUUGACGUGGGGGAGAGAUUGAAACUGAGACCGAAACUGCCAAGUCCUGCCUUAUAUACACACACCUUUAGUCCCGGUUGGUGGCUUCGACCGAGACUAAUUAAAGGCCCCCCUUUAGUCACGGUUCAAGCCACCAACCGAGACUAAAGCUGAAUUUCAAAGGCCCAAGUGCGCGAAACCGCGAGUCCUUUGGUCCCGGUUGGUGGCUCGGACCGGGACUAAAGGGGGUCCUUUAGUCCUAGUCGAAACCACCAACCGGGACUAAAAGGCUGCUCCUGGAACUAGCGCAGGGUGGUGGAAGUUUAGUUCCACCUCGCCAAGCGAAGGGCGCUUGCAGUGGUUUAUAAGCCCUCCUACGGCUUACCUCUCCAGCUCCUCUCUAUUGCAAGCAGUACAUGCCUAACACUUUCUGUGCCCUGUUGGGCCUAAUUACCCCGUGGGCCUGCAUCCUGGCCCAAGUAUAGUUGGGUUCCUAGUCGUAUGUAGGCCAUGGUGGCCUAUUAGGAGGGCAUUUUCUUUAUUUUUUGCAAAAUUAUAUUUUGAUCAUAACCUGAGGUUUACAAAAGCUUUUUAGUUGAUUCUUUUUGUUAUUGAAGAAUAUUAUAGUUUUGUUUUAGUUGAUCACAACAAAAUAUUUUAAUUGAUUCUUUUUAGUUGAUUCCUUUUGCUAUUAGAGUUUUAUAAAAGCUUUUUAGUUUGCUAUUAAAGUUUCUAACAAAAAAUACUUUAUGAAAAUUCCUUGAGUUUGUGGUAGCAACCAACUAAAUACUUAGAGUNNNNNNNNNNNNNNNNNNNNNNNNNNNNNNNNNNNNNNNNNNNNNNNNNNNNNNNNNNNNNNNNNNNNNNNNNNNNNNNNNNNNNNNNNNNNNNNNNNNNUUGGGCUUGCGUUGGUUCUUCCCUUGAAGAGGAAAGGGUGAUGCAGCACAGGAGCAGUAAGUAUUUCCCUCAGUUUGAGAACCAUGGUAUCAAUCCAGUAGGAGAAUCUCGUCAAGUCGAGAGUACCUGCACAAACACAAAAGAGCUUGCACCCAACGCUAUAAAGGGGUUGUCAAUCCCUUCAAGAUUGUUUGCAAAGUGAGUUCUGAAGGCGGAAAGUGCAACGAAGUAAAAAGUGUAAGGCUGAAAAUAUGUUGUGGAGUAGACCCUGGAGGCCAUAGUGUUCACUAGAGGCUUCUCUCAAAAAAGCAAGUAUUACGGUGGGUGAACAAAUUACUGUCGAGCAAUUGAUAGAACCGCGCUAAGUCAUGACGAUAUGUAAGGCAAUGAUCAUACAUAUAGGCAUCACGUCCGAGACAAGUAGACCGAUACUUUCUACAUCUACUACUAUUACUCCACACAUCGGCCGCUAUCCAGCAUGCAUCUAGUGUAUUGAGUUCAUGACGAACAGAGUAACGCCUUAAGCAAGAUGGCAUGGUGUAGAGGGAUAAUCUCAAACCAAUGAUGAAAACCCCAUCUUUUUACCCUUGAUGGCAUCAACACGAUAUGUGCCUCGCUACCCCUUCAGUCACUGGGUGAGGUCACCGCACGGUAUGAACCCAAAACCAAGCACUUCUCCCAUUGCAAGAAUUAUAGANNNNNNNNNNNNNNNNNNNNNNNNNNNNNNNNNNNNNNNNNNNNNNNNNNNNNNNNNNNNNNNNNNNNNNNNNNNNNNNNNNNNNNNNNNNNNNNNNNNNCUAUGAUCUCUAAGUUGUCAUUGCAAACAUGGUUCUCUCACAACAAAGUUGAAUCUAGGUCGAUAAGCUAGUCAUAUUUACAAAAACAAAAUAGAUAGAGUUCAUACCAGCUUUUCAGUCUCAGUCACUUCAUCAUAUAUCAUCAUUGUUGCCUUUCAUUUGCACGAUCGAACGAUGAGAACGAUAAUAAGCGCAUUGGACUAAGCUGAAUCUGCAGGCAAACACAAAGGAGAUGACAAAAUAAUAUGGCUCUUUGAAAGCUAAACAGGUAAGCAUGCAUGAACAAAUAAACAUUGUAACCAAUAUAUUCUACCUUGACACAAAGAAAAAGAAAACUAUUUACACGGGAAAGCUCCCAACAAGCAAAAGAAGAGAGAAAAAUCUUUUUGGGUUUUCUCAAAAGGACACAAAACAAGAAAACAAGAAAACAAAAAGAAACUAGCAUGGAUAAUACAGUGGAAAAGUGUAAACAUCAGCUAACAAAGUGAAAGCAUAACCAUGAAUGUAAAGUCGGUGAGAACACGUACUCCCCCAAGCUUAGGAUUUUGGCCUAGCUUGGUCUACUCCCAAGGUGGGAAAUAACCAGCUCCAGGAUACUCCGGAGAAGACUGUGGAUGCCACUGCUGUGUGAGCUCCUCUGGCUCCCACUGAUAAACUGGCGUCUGGUACUCCACUGGCGGCUCGGGCAGGGGCGCCUGUGGUUGGGCCAAGCCCCAAUAUGCGUAGAUGUCCGCGGGCAUAAUAGUGUACCUCCCUGCAUGAAGAUCGAACAAAGAAGGAGCAGGCUAAGUAAUAGUCUCUCGAGUACCUUGACUAAACACCAGGUUGAAAAUCAUCCAUCUACUAGCAUCUCUAUCCAGAAAAUCAUGGCGAACCAUGCUGUCAUAAUCCAGAUACCUCUCAGGGAGAAGCAUCUCUCCUUCCUCUCCCAGUCUAAUGGGUAUCUCAAAGUGUCUGGCAAGACGGGUAGCAUAGAUACCUCCAUAGACGACUCCUUUAGAACGGUUCAGGUUCAACCGUUGAGCUACUAUAGCGCCCAAGCUAUAAGUCUUAUCGUUAUAAAGGCCUUCGCGCAGAACCACAAGGUCUGGAGAACUAUGUGAUCCAGCCUCCCCACGGCCAAUCAAACAUUUUCCCACAAAUAGUGAGAAGUACCGAAGCACAGGAAAAUGUAUGCUAGCAAUUCUAGCGCGAGACACUCCUCUCUCCUCUCCAAGAGCAAUAGAACCAAUGAAAUCCUCCAAGUCCCGUGGACGAGGAUCAUGGAUAUCCCCAACAUAAGGUAAUUUGCAUACAUUGCAAAAAUCCUGCAGCGUCAUGCACUCGGGACAUCGUAUAUCAUGAACUCAACCAUGGGAGGAUUCUUCCUCGGAUAAAAGUUGAAGCUUUGAACGAAAAUAUUGGUGAGGAGGAGGUAUUGUGGGCACUUAUCUUCAACAAACGCAGUAAGACCUGUGUUCUCCACCAAGUAAUAAAAGUCUUCAUAAAGUCCGACGACGCGCAAAAAUUCAUCACUUGGCCACUCGCACGCUCGAACUUCUGUGACCUGAGGGACUACGUACUUGGGGUGAUUCUUCUCAUCCUCCUUGGGGUUACGGCUUGAAGAGCCUCUCAAGAACCUCCUCAUCUUUUCCUUUUUCUAGCUCUGAAAAAUUCUGAAAUUUUUAGAGACUUUGAAAGAAAAGUGAAUGAAGAUUAACCCAACUUGUAGCAACUACUCCUACUAGUGCCUAGAGACCAUAUCACGCGCUAAAACUACAUGGGACCAACUAAAAUCAACAUUUCUAGCUCAAGAACAGGGUCACCAAGGUAGGAAGAAUACGCGAAGGAUAAAGCACUAGAGCAAAAACUAAUUGGACAAAUGGAGGAGUCACUUACCAAGGAGUAAUUUCCCCAAAGCGGUUCGGAGAAUGGUGCUUUAAGCAAGGAGAUCGAAAAUCACAGCCAAAUGAGGAAGAACACGAGUUUGAGCUGCGAAACAAUUUUUUCUUGGGGUGGAAGAAGAGGCUGGGAGCUGGAAUGAGUGGAGGGGGUGCGUGUGGGCCCCACAAGCUUGCACCCCGCCACCAGGGGGGUAGGUGGGGGUGGAAGGGCUUGUGGCCCACUGGUCAGGACCCCAGGCCAGCUCUCAGGCCCAGAAAUUUUCAAAAAUUCUAGAAAAAAUCAUACUAAAUUUUCAGGACCAUCGGAGAAUUUUUAUUUUCGAGGUAUUUUUCUCUGGGCCGCUAAAACGAAAAACAGGAAAAACUAAACUAAUUCUAUCAUUUUUCUUUUAAGCAAAAGAAAAGGAAAACUUAAAACAGAGGUAUGUGACUCCUUGAUUCAUCCGUUUCAUGGUCAUCGAAAGAAAUCCGUCAAUGGGAUUGAUCAAGUCCUUAUGAUAGAACCUUCUGGAAUCGCAAGAGAGAACGGAGAAUUUUUGAAUAGCCACUAAGUCACCUCAAUGGGUAUAUGUAUCUCCCCAACAAGCAAAUCAUACUUCAUCUUGACACGAGGAAUAGGGCAUUCAAAGCUCCCAAUGAGAAUCGAUGAAGUCUUUUCGAUAGCAUUGAUGCAAUGUACUGGAUAUCGUUUCUUCGGAAAGUGCACGGUGUGCUCAUUACCGUUGACGUGGAAAGUGACAUUGCCCUUGUUGCAAUCUAUAACAGUCCCUGUAGUGUUUAAAAAGGGUCUUCCGAGGAUGAUAGCCAUGUCAUUGUCCUUGGGAAUAUCCAAGAUAACAAAGUUUGUUAAGAUAGUGGUAUUAGCAACCACAACAGGCACAUCCUCGCAAACGCCGAUAGGGAAAGCAGUUGAUUUGUCGGCCAUUUGCAGAGAAAUUUCNNNNNNNNNNCUCAAGUCUAUGAUAAAAAGAGAGCGGCAUAACACUAACACCGGCUCCAAGGUCACAUAAGGCAGUUCUUACGUAGUUUCCUUUAAUGGAGCAAGGUGUAGUGGGCACUCCGGGAUCACAAAGUUUCUUAGGAGUUCCACCUUUAAAAGUGUAAUUGGCAAGCAUGGUGGAGAUCUCAAGAUCUGGUAUCUUCCGUUUAUUAGUCACGAUAUCUUUCAUGUACUUGGCAUACAGAGACGAGUAUAUCAGUUAACCGCAUCUGCAGAAAUACGGGUCUUAUCAUCUCAACGAAGCGCUCAAAAUCCUCAUCAUCCUUUUUCUUGGAUGGCUUAGGAGGAAAUGACAUAGGUCUCUGAACCCAUGGCUCUCUUUCUUUACCAUGCUUCCUAGCAUUGAAGUCAUUCUUAUCGUAUUUCUUAGGUUGUGGGUUAUUAGGAUUAACCGUAGGUUCAAUCUCCACAUCCUCAUCAUUGCUAGGUUGAGCAUUAUUAUGAACAUCGCUGUCCAUAUUGUCACCAGGUUCAUGUUCAUCACCAGAUUGUGUUUCUGCAUCAGACGCAUAAAUAUCAUUAGGUUCUUCAGGUGUGACGGUAUUUGGUGAACUGGCGUGUAGGUUUCUAUCAUCCUUCUUCUUCUCCUUAGGAUGACUAGGUGUAUCAGCAUUGAUUCCUUGAGAAUCUUGAUCAAUUCUCUUAAGAUGACCUUCAGGAUACAAAGGUUCCUGAGUCAUUUUGCCUCCUCUAGUAAUGACUCUGACAGAGUUGUCAUUUAAUUCAUCGAGCAGGUCAUUCUGAGCUUUGAGUACUUGUUCUACUUGAGUAGUAAUCAUAGAGGCAUGUUUACUCAGAAGCUUCAGAUCAUUGACAUUUCUGUCUACACAAGCACUUAAAUGGCUAAGCAUACGAGUACUUUGUUCCAAAUGUCUGCUAACAUAAGCAUUGAAACUCUGUUGUUUGGCAACAAAGUUGUCAAAUUCAUCAAAGCAUAGGCUAGCAGGUUUNNNNNNNNNNNNNNNNNNNNNNNNNNNNNNNNNNNNNNNNNNNNNNNNNNNNNNNNNNNNNNNNNNNNNNNNNNNNNNNNNNNNNNNNNNNNNNNNNNNNUUAUUUCAUAAUAUAUAUAUAUAUAUAUAUAUAUAUAUAUAUAUUUCACAACACAUAUAUGAUAUAUAUUUCACAACACAUAUAUAUAGUUCACCACACAUAUAUGAUAUACAUACAAAGUUCACCAAUGUACAUCCCAUAUAUCGAAAGAACCAACAUACAAAGUUUUACACUGUUCAUCCAUAGAUACAUAUACAUAUAGUUCGACAUUGUUCAUCAACUCAAAUUAAAACUAGAACUAAUAAGGCACUCCAUGAAUGCCAGCUUCCAUGCAUGUAGUACAUCCAAUCUGCAGAAAUGUGAAUAAGAAAGUCAGAAGAAGAACAACAUAUGAUAUUUUAGAGGAAAACAAGCUAAGAAUAUAAUAUUCAUUAGCUAACCAAGGUUCUAAUGCCAUUUUGAGCUUAUUAUGUCAUUUUGGAGCUAAAUGGGCUAAUUAUAUAUGUCAUUGUUGGGGAAAAUAAGGUAAGGAGAAUAAGAAAGAGGAGAAGAAAGAGGAGGAGGAGGAGAACAAAGAGGAGGAGGAGGAGAAGAAGAAGAAAUCAAGAAGAAGGAGAAGAAGAAGGAGGAGAACGAGGAGAAGGUCUUCUCCUCCUUCUCCUUCUUCUCCUCCUCCUCCUUCUCCUUCUUCUUGUCUUCUUCUUCUUCUUCUUCUUCCUUCUUUUCAUUUUUCCUAUUUCUUCUCCUCUUCUCCUCUUUUUGGAGCUAAAUUAUCUAAUUAUGUCUUUUUGGAGCUAUAUGGGCUAAUUAUGUCAUUUUAGAGGAAAACAAUCUAAUAAUAUAAUAUUCAUGAGCUAACCAAUGUUUUUAUGCCAUUUUGAGCUUAUUAUGUCAUUUUGGAGGAUAAUUAGCUAAGUUAUGAGCUAACCAAGGUUAUUACGAUGUUUUUACCCUAAUUAAGCUAAUUAUGUCAUUUUGGAGGAUAAUUAGCUAAGUAUGUCUUAAUUCGGGAAAAUAAGCUACGCAGAAGAAGAAAGAGAAGAAGCAAGAAGAGAAGAAGAAGGAGGAGAAGGAGAAGGAGGAGGAGGAGAAUGAGAAGGAGGAGGAGGAGAAGAAGAAGAGAAGAAGAAGGAGAAUAAGAAGGAGAACAAGGAGGAGAGAAGAAGGAGAAGAAGGAGGGAGAACAAGAAGGAAGAGAGAAGAAGGAGAAGAAGGAAGGAUCCUUCUCCUUCUUCUUCUCUUCUUCUUCUUCUUCCUUCUUUUCAUUUUUCCUAUUUCUUCUCCUCUUCUCCUCUUCUUCUUAUUCUUCUCCUCCUCCUCCUCCUCUUCUCCUCUUCUCCUCUUCUUCCUCCUCUUCUUCUUCUUCUUCCUCUUAUUUCUAUUUCUAUAUUUCUUUAUCCACUUCUUCUACUUAUUCUUCUUUUCUUAUUUUUUCUCUCUUCUUAUUUUUUCUUCUUCUCUUCUUCUCUUCUUCUUCUCUUCUUCUCCUCUUCUCCUUUUGUUGGAGCUAAAUUAUAUAAUAAUGUCUUUUUGGAGCUAUAUGGGCUAAUUAUGUCAUUUUAGAGGAAAACAAGGUAAGAAUAUAAUAUUCAUGAGCUAACCAAGGUUUUUAUGCCAUUUUAAGCUUAUUAUAUCAUUUUUGGAGGAUAAUUACCUAAGUUGUGAGCUAACCAAGGUUCUUAGGAUGUUUUUACCCUAACUAAGCUAAUUAUGUUAGUUUGGAGGAUAAUUAGCUAAGUAUGUCUUUGUUGGGGAAAAUAAGCUACGUAGAAGAAGAAAGAGAAGAAGCAAGAAGAGAAGAAGAAGGAGAAGGAUGAGAAGGAGAAGGAGGAGGAGGAGAAUUAGAAGGAGGAGGAGGAGGAGAAGAAGAGAAGAAUAAGGAGAAGAAGAAGGAGAAGAAGGAGGUGAGAAGAAGCAGAAGAAGAAGGAGAAGAAGGAGGGAGAAGAAUAAGGAUGAGAGAAGAAGGAGAAGAAGGAGGGCUCCUUCUCCUCCUCCUCGUUCUCAUGCUUCUUCUCUUCUUCUUCUCUUCUCCUUCUCUUCUUCCUUCUUCUUCCUUCUUUUCAUUUUUCCUCUUUCUUCUCCUCCUCUUCUUCUUCUUCUUCUUCUUCUCCUCCUCCUCCUCCUCCUCCUCUUCUCCUCUUCUUCCUCCGCUUCUUCUUCUUCUUCCUCUUAUUUCUAGUUCUAUUUUUCUUUAUCCUCUUCUUCUACUUAUUCUUCUUUUCUUCUUUUUUCUCUUCUUCUCCUUAUUUUCUUCUUCUUAUCUUCUUCUCUUAUUCUUUUCUACUUCUCCUUCUUAUUUCUUUUCUUCGCCUCUUCUUCUUCUCCUUCUUAUUUUUUUUCUUCUCCUCUUCUUCUUCUUCUUCUUCUUCUUCUUCUUCUCCUUCUUAUUUUUUUCUCUUCUUCUUCUUCUUCUUCUUCUACUUCUUCUCCUCCUCCUCCUCCUCCUCCUCCUCCACUUCUUCUCCUCCUCCUCUUCUUCUUCUUCUUCUUCCUCUUCUUUCUAUUAAUCUAACUAACUACAACAACUACAACAACAACAACUACUACAACAACUACAAUAACAAGAACAACUACUAUAGCAACAAUAAAAAAAUCAUCUUUUUAGUUAUAAUCGAAUUCCAAAAAUCUAAAUAACAAAUAUUUAAUUUUCCUGUGGGGUGGGGUGUGGGGGCUCACCGGCAGGGUCGGCUAUGGCGUUGUGUAUGGCGGGGCCAGGGGUGUUGGGGCGGCGGGCCAACGCCGGGGGUGUUGGGGCUGUAGGGUGUCGACGAGGGCGGUGGGGCAGCGACANNNNNNNNNNNNNNNNNNNNNNNNNNNNNNNNNNNNNNNNNNNNNNNNNNNNNNNNNNNNNNNNNNNNNNNNNNNNNNNNNNNNNNNNNNNNNNNNNNNNGAAUAUUUGUGUUCAUCCUGAAGAUGAUGUUAAAAGAAAUGCGAACAAAAGUGAGAGAGACAUGCACUUAGUUUUUUUUGUGAGAGGAAGUUGUGCGCGCAUAGACACGAUACCACACCAUUCAAGAUAAUUAACAGAAACUAGGCAUAAACAUAGACUAAGUUCAAAUCAAAAUAUGUAACUGUGAAGCCAAAUCAAACAAACGAAUAUGUUUAGCCAACCAAGCAGGAGAGCACUAACCAAACAAUGCUUACUAGCUAGCUAGUAAACUAGAACGUGACCAUCCAACGUACAUACACGCAUCAUGCAGGAACCGAUAUGAACAUUUUUCCGUAAGAGGGACAUCAAGACCUUGUUUUGGAAGGACUAAAGAGCUCAAGCAGUUAAGAGUCAAUCCUGAAGCAUGAGGCCAUGGAUAACAGUAACAACCAUGAGGAACAAUAUAUCAAAGCGUAGAAUGCAAUCAUGUGAACCAAACUUAACUCAGCAACAACUACAAGAAUGCUGGUGGCUGCAACAUACUGGUAGAAAAAAGACUAGCUGGGUGUUUAGUGCAGUAGACAUUAAACUACCACUAAUUGAGACAUAAGUGAAGGUACCAACACUGUAACAUCUUAUACUCAGGGUAUAGUAAGCUUAAAUUUCAAGAUAAAACACAAACAGAGUGCGUAUAAAUCAUCACAGGAGUCGUGCUUCAAAAUGUGCAGGCAGGAUUUUAUGUUGGCUACAUCAAUAAUCAUCAUAAUCCUAAAUCACAGUUGAUAGGGUGAGCGAAACAAAAUGCCCAAUGCCUAACCGCUGGCUGAAACCAAUUUGCACGAAAUAAAGCCUAUGAUUCGCAAAUAUCUGAAUCGUUCUCCUGUCCAUCUUAGUAACAUACAGAAAUGAAUCGCACACCGAAUAAUUGAUCCAAGAAAACUUUUGUCCUAGCCAAGAUAAUNNNNNNNNNNAAUAUCUCAAUCGUUCUCCUGUCCAUCUUAGUAACAUACAGAGAUGAAUCUCACACCGAAUAAUUGAUCCAAGAAAACUUUUGUCCUAGCCAAGAUAAUGGGGGAAACUCGAAUUUGUUUAAUGGUUUAACCUUUUUCAUCAAGGUGGGAAGCUCUGGAAAUAGUGUUUCUUUAACAAUAGUACAUAGAUGUUCUAAUAUGUAGANNNNNNNNNNNNNNNNNNNNNNNNNNNNNNNNNNNNNNNNNNNNNNNNNNNNNNNNNNNNNNNNNNNNNNNNNNNNNNNNNNNNNNNNNNNNNNNNNNNNGGAGUUGAUACGUCUCCAUCGUAUCUACUUUCCCAAACUCUUUUGCCCUUGUUUUUGGACUCUAAUUUGCAUGAUUUGAAUGGAACUAACCCGGACUGACGCUGUUUUCAGCAGAAUUGCCAUGGUGUUGUUUUUGUGCAGAAAUGAAAGUUCUCGGAACAUCCUAAAAAUUUACAAAGAAUAUUUCUGGAAAAUUUGAGAAAUACCUGCGCAAAGAUCCACCGGAGGGGACGGGCCAGUGGGCCACAAGCCCUAACGCCGCGGCCUCCCCCCUGGCCGCGGCAACCAAGCUUGUGGGGCCCACGUGGCUCUACCGCCCCCAACUCGAGCGCUAUUAUUCCCUUUCGUCCCGAAAAAAAUCAAGAGAGAAGAUUUCAUCGCGUUUGCAACACAGAGGCGCCGCCACAUCCUGUUCUUCAUCUGGUGGGCAGAUCUGGAGUCCAUUUUGGGCUCCGGAUCAAGGAGAUCGUCGCCAUCGUCAUCAUCAACCUUCUUCCCUCUCCAAUUCCAUCUAGCUCUUCAUCAUUCCUGAGUAAUCUAUUCGUAGGCUCGCUGGGCGGUGAUGAGUAGGAUGAGAUCUAUCAUGUAAUCGACUUAGUUUUGACGGGGAUUGAUCCCUAGUAUCCACUAUGUUCUGAGAUUGAUGUUGCUACUACUUUGCCAUGCUUAAUGCUUGUCACUAGGGCCCGAGUGCCAUGAUUUCAGAUCUGAAAUUAUUAUGUUGUCACCAAUAUAUAUGUGUUCUAGAUCCGAUCUUGCAAGUUGUAGUUAGCUAGUAUUUGUUAUGAUCCGGCAACCCCGGAGUGACAAUAACCGGAACCACUCCCGGUGAUGACCAAAGGUUGAGGAAUACAUGUGUUCACCAAGUGCUAAUGCGUUGGUCCGGUUCUUUAUUAAAAGAAGAACCUUAAUAUCCCGUAGUAUCCAUUUGGACACCGCUGCCACGGGAGGGAUGGACAAUAGAUGUCAUGCAAGUUCUUUUCCCUAAGCACNNNNNNNNNNAUAAUGCAUGCCUACAUCACAUUGACGAACGGGAGCUAGCCACAUAUCUCUCCGUGUUAUAACUGUUGCAUGAUGAAUGUCAUCCAACAAAUCACCGAUCCAUUGCCUACGAGUUUGUCCCACUGCUGUUGUUACUUGUUUUGCUCUGCUGCUGUUACUACUGUUGCUCCUACUAUUACUUGCUGCUAGUGUUACUUGCUUUGUCCUGCUGCUGCUGCCACUACUUUUGCUACUACUGUUACUUGCUACUGUUGUUACUUGCUACUGUUGCUACUUGCCACUGCUUCACUACUGCUGUUCCUUGCCACUGCUGCUACUCGUUACACUGCUACUACCUGCUACAAUAAUUUUUCUAGCACCGUUGCCGGGAAAGAAUAUUUCCCAUCCACGGGCAACUUACUGGCGCCAUUGAAACAACAGUUAGGAAUAGUCUGCCGUCAACAGAUCGUUUCUGGCACCGUUGUUAUCAUACUACUUUGCUACUGAUACUUUGCUUGCACACACUAAUCUUUCAGGUGUGGUUGAAUCUGACACAUUCAGCAUCUUAUACUUGAGAAUAUUCUUUCACUUCCCAUCGUGCGAACCAACAAAUUUGGGUUGACUACUCUACCCUCGAAAACUGCUGCGAUCCCACGCGCUGGUGGGCUAUUGCAAGACAAUUUCUAAUUGUUGAGCAACUGGAAGCAGCUCUUUUCUGGCUCCGUUGCCGUGGAGGCAUCAAGUCAGGAAUAGUUGCACAUCAACAGUCCCUCACACUCAAAUCCCUCCACAACAAUAGAAGCUAUGGAAGGAAAUGAGAGGAAUAAUGAAGGAUCUCACAAAGAACUCCAAGAUCUAGAUCCAAGGGGUUCCCCUCACAAAGAGGAGAAAGUGAUUGGUGGAAAUGUACAUCUAGAUCUCCUCUCUCUUUUCCAUCAAGAACUAGCAAGAAUCAUUCGAAAGAUUGAGAGUUAGCAAGCUUAAAGAAGGACACAAUGGAGGAAGAAAAUGAGCUCAAGAGUGAGGGACCAUUGGGGAAGAAGGACUCCUCAAUUAGACAUCCCAAAAUCCAACAUGCCCACAAGUCGUGCUCAAGCGGUACUACCGCUUGGGGGAAUUGGUACUAUCGCUUAUCACGGUCAAAACAGCCCAACGAGAUAGAAAAACACGAGUGGUAGUUCUGCCAAAGAGGUAGUACCGCUCGGGGGAGAGGUAGUACCUCUUAAGAGGUACUACUGCUCCGUGCCUGGGGUAAAGGUAGUACCACUUGAGAGGUACUACCUUUCUGUACUACCCCUCUACUAUCGUUGAAGAAGAUUGGACACCAGAAUCAGAAAAUAAGCGGAAGUAGAAGUGGUAAUGGUCAGCAGAAGUACCUCUUAAGAGGUACUACCGCUUGAGAGGUACUACCGCUUAAAGCAGUACUUAAGACCAACGAAAACUGAAACCUGCAUAACUGUCGGAUAGAGACUCCAAAAUGAGCAAGCUCAAGCUUGUUGGAUAGAUUACUGAUGGCACUCUCUGGCUAUGGCUAGACGAAUGCUAUUCUCGAUUGCUCAACAAUUAGAAAUUGUCUUGCAAUCACUACAAGGAAUAUGCUAAUACACGACGCUAUUUUUUCGUCGCUACAUCGUCAUGGUUUUUAAUUUACGACGAUCUCACGACGAAAACCAAGCGUCGAAAACGGAGCGUCACAAAUGAACAGCAACGACGUUUUGAUUAAAAUCGUCGUAACUUUUACGACGAUUCCUGGAUUGUCGUAAACUUUACGACGAUCCUAAAUCGUCGUUGGCAAUCAAACUCAGUCCUACGUGGCAGUCCUACGUGGCAAAAUUACGACGAAAUCAAAACAUCAUGGUUGAAAUCAGCCCAACCCAUUUCAAUUGAUCACAUGGGCUGGUUUUAAUUAUUUGGGUUUUUUCUUAUUGGGCUUGUUUUUGGGCCUUAGCCUAUUUGCAGCCACUUCUAGUAUUUUUUCAAUUUUUUUUAUAUCAUCAUAAUUUGGGCCAUGGCCUUUUAGAUCCCAAAUAAAUUUGGUCCAGUUUCAGUUUUGGCCCUUUUUCAUUUUUGAAUUCAGCAACUUUUUGUUCCAUAAUUUGGAUUCAUUUCUAUUUGCUGGGCCUUUUCAACCCAAUUAUUUGUCCAGUAUUAAAUCCAACACUAUUUCAUAUUGAAAUCAAGAAAACUUCAAGUCGAAUUAAAAUCAUCCAUGAUAUAACAUCACAAAAUACAUAUCCCAAGUUUACAUAUCACAAUAAACCAUCUCAUGAAAACAUUUCCUUACACAUGAAUAUAGCAAGAACGAACAAAAUUACACAAUAGAACAAUCGCACAUCUUUUACUGUCCCAACAGUACAGUGGACUUCAUUCCGCUCUCCUAUGAGGCAUGCUCGAGAUGCCACAACUUGUCAAUCUAUAAGAACAUUACACUUCACAUGAAUCAAUCAAAAGGAAACAAAUAUAAAAAAUAUUAGAAAUAAAAAGAUUUAUUUUCAUCCUAAAGAUGAUGUUAAAAAUCCUGAGAUAUAAAUUCUCGAGUAUAAUUAGUCCAACCUAAACAGGUCAGAGAAACUGAAAAUUAAACUUCAAACUAUCUAAGAUUGUUCCAGGAAAUUCUGGACAAAGGAAAUGCAGACAAGCAAACUUAAUAUCUUUAUGGUAUUUUCGCUUUACUAGAGGAAUUUAAGCACCGACACAAGUAGGAGUCAAUGACACAACAAUUAGCAGACAUGUAAGAUAAUACAAAACAAGCUACUCCACGUUACUGUGAUAACCAAGUGCAAACCAGGGUGUAAGAAUAUUAGCCCAAAAAAUCCUUUGGGCAACAUACAUCACUAAAUUACGCUAUCAAUAAGUGCACCAGAGACUCUAAUUUAUUACCUUCAGAAGUUUUAGAUCGAAUCAAAUGAAAACAUGAAAAGGGACUACCAAAGAGCAUUAUUGAUUUAGAUAGAGCUUUGAUGCUGAGUUGAUUUCUCGUGUCAACUGGGGUAAUUCUUUAGCCAGAUUGGAGAAAGGAAACCUGACUAGCACUCAAAAUAUUAACCAGAAGACAAUAGUAAAACAUAAAAGAUGGAUCAGAUUUCCGGCUUUUAAUCCUGAUGGGAUUACAUUUGCGCAUUGUAUACUCAUAGUCGAUAAUUUGGGGACAGUAUCCUCGGGUCCAUAUAACCCAAGGAAAAAAGCAAUUGGUCAUCACAGUAAGUGCAGAAACGUGGUAUGGAUAUGAUAUCAUCACUUCUCACAACAAACAAAAAAUGGUGUAGGAGUUUCUAUUUAUUUAAGACAAGACAACUAUACAGCAUCCAUGACAGAAUGUGUUGCUUACUAGACAUUCAGAAUAAGUAGAGAUACAAAAACAUGACUUCAGAUGCCGAAUAUGCACAGUUUAAUAAUAUACAGUAUCAUGAGACACCUAACAAGUGUUGAUCAUCACUGAUGAAUCAACCACAGAAACCAGCUGCAGAAAGAACAAUAUAGUUGAUAUGUGUAAACGGGGUAUAGUAACAGGAAGCUCCUUCUAUGAGAGCAGCCAGUGUCACAAAAACAUGUUUCCUUCUUGAUGUCUGCCAAUCUAACGAGAAACAAGGCCAUGAAAGCAGACCAAGCAUCAGAUACCUCAUGGCAUCCCAAAUACCACUAUCCAAACAAAAUUUAGUUCAGUGCUAAGAUAUGUAUGGACAAGUUGAAUGCAAAAACCAUCUCAAAGAAUGGUUCGUGCUAGAAUCUUAACCCAAAGUAUCUCUAGGCAACGUACAGCGCUGAAUUACACUACCAAGAAGCGGACCUCAGUACUCAACCUUAAAGCUGAUAAAAAUUUAGCAGAGUAUACCAAAAGAUGAAGGGGAACACUCAGCGUUUCAAAAAAGAAGGCAGCAUCAAAUACUAUAGUAAUUAUUAUUGGACAUGAUAUAGUAAGGUACUUUCACUGGUUAUUGACUGUUUUCAGUUUUCACUAAGCAUAAGUGCAUAAUAUGGAAACAAUAUAAGAGAAACCAUACACCCUCGGAUAUUAAGCUAUUCCAAGUAUGUGAGGUAUACAACUUAUAGGAGCUUACAUGACAUUCGAACCGAUAGUCCCAACGCCCAGAGCAAUGUUCUUCGAGGAAUCUAGGUGUUCUUGUUUAUUCUCUGUAAUAUCUGAUCUCGAUAACCUUUUCUUCUUCCCUCUACUGAUUAAAAAUAGAAGUAAUUAAUCCCAGUCCAAUGUGUUGAGGGAAGAAAAACAUAGCGUGUCAAAAAAGAAGGCAGCAUCAAGUACUAUAGUAAUUACUAUUGGAGAUGAUAUAGUAAGAUACUCUCACUGGUUAUUGACUGUUUUCAGUUUUCACUAGGCAUAAGUGCAUAAUAUAGAAACAAUAUAAGAGAAAACAAAAGUAGUUAGUCCUAAUAAAAUUAUUUCACAUAUUUGUGGCAUGUUCACUCUCAGUUCUUAGGAAGGGAAAAUGCAACCUAGAAUCCUAAAUUCGUUGCAUAUUUUGCCUAUGAUGAAACUAAGAAAAACUAACUUGACAAUACAUGCUAUGGACUGUAGUCUACAGAAUAAAUGACAUACAAGAUUAAAUAAUAUGAUUCUAUUUUGCAGAAGCAGCUGUUUUUUCAUACAUCCCAUGGCAUUUCUGUCGUAAUCACUAGCAACUUCAAAUAGAGUUAAGCAAAAAAUAUCAACAUUCUUUAUUGAUUUCGAUUACAUGCAAAUAAGUAAAAAUGCCCUACUCUACCAAUAAGACAUAAGUAAAGAGCUGACAACACUAGACUGUACAACUACACAAACACAUGAGGUGCUUCUAAGACAAAAAAUAAACCUGAAUUUAGUGUGAGGACUAGCCAAUCCAGAAAGUAAAAAACGCAUUACUGAACAGUCACAGUUUCCAAAACACUAGCCAAUCCAGAAAGUAAAAAACACAUUAGCAAAACUGCAGGACAACAGAAAGGAAGAGUUAAUUUGUGUAGGUGACUGAACAAUACUAUUCAUCUGGACAACAGAAAACUGAUCACCAAAUCCUUUUCAGACAACUAAUUCAUCAAAAGGAACAUGACAUAUCAGGUACUAGUUCACAUAGGACACUGAAUUUGGUAAACUGAAAUAUACCCAACAAAAUACCGAGCACAAACAACAUGUUUUAAUAAUCAUAUUCAGUUAGGGGAAGCAAGUUGGCAGACAUUUCUACAUUAGAAUGUCCACGACUAACAAAACAUUCAUGGUAACACAAAAGGCACAAUCCGGCGAAGUGUUGUAAAUUCCCUUGUAUCCGAGUGGCACAAAUCUGCCUAUUUAUGAAGUAAAUCUAGGCCGGAAUUCCUAGAAUCUCGAACCCCCGAAGUCGCUGAAUAACCAAUUUAUUAGCAGAUCCAAUGGGCUAAACUUGUGAAGUACUAGUAACAUCUAUCUAAACGCUGUCCCAGGUAACAACAGAUCCGGAAAAUCUCUAGUUGGGACGUGUCCCGCUUACUUGAGGUAGUCAUCCUUGAAGAGGUCUUCCCUGUCAUCUUCCUCCUCGUCGCGGAUAACGGUGGCGCUGUCGUCCUCGGGGAGCACAUUAAGGUCGACCUCUGCCUCGCCAUCGUUGUCCGAGUAGGAGGAUGGGUCGGUGGCGCCGUGGCUGGUGGUGGUGUUGGGCGGCAGCCAGUCGGUGUUGAAACCCAGCGAGCCGGGGGUCGACGGCGCGUUCUUCUCCGAGUCGUCCUGGGAAAAUCAAAUCAACCGACGGAAACGUCAGAUCCGGAGGCGGGAAGCAAUUCAACAAGUUAAACCAUCUAUUAAAAAAAUGAAAACCACGCGAAUUUAACAUGUAAAGAUCUAGCUCGAAGAACAAUAAUAUAUAGGUCAUAUGAAUGAUGGUUCAAAUGCAUUCAACACUUCAAAUUACUACUACUACAACUGUCCGCAAAAUUAUAGAAACUUGGCAUAUACCGCAAGCAUUUCUCUUGCACUCAGUCAGGGGAUCGACUUCCAGGUUCCAGCUAGUAGGAGAUUUUCAGUAGAUAAUUUCGAGGCCACUAUCUAAGAAAUUUCAUUAAGUGAUUUCUCUUGUUACUAAACCUACUACACUAUAGCUAGCUCACUAAGAAUUCGUACAAGCAAUCUUGUUACUAAACCUACUACACUAUAUGUCUUGUCAUUCCUGUCCUAGUUUUCAGUGUCAGGAGACUUUUACUAACUUAUGAACAGCAACUGCCACUAUUGACUUCGCCAAAUCAAUAAUUACAAUCACAAGAUCGACCAGGAAACACAGAUUUCAUGCAAAAGACACGGAAUUCAGCAACUAAAAUCCUCCAUGAACAAAGAUAUAGCAGUUGAAACAGUCCAAAUCAUUCAUGCAGUUCCUCACAAGAAAUCAAAUCAUAUGGAGGAUGGAUGGAGAGGCCUCCAUGCAUGCAUGUACGCUUCUUCUUCUUGGUCGCAGCGGGCGGGGAGGAGGUUCCCGCAAUCACGAGCUGUAGAUCGCCCUCGUAUUCACCAAUCUCCGGCGGGCUUCCGGCUAGUUACGGUGGCUUCCCGUGGUAUGGCAGCCAGAACUCCUCUCCCACAACCUCUGUUGUGCUGCUCACGGAAGGGAAGGGGUUUGGUUGGUGGUGGUGUUGGGCGGCAGCCAGUCGGUGCUGAAACCCGGCGAGCCGGGGGUCGACGGCGCAUUGUUCUCCGAGUCGUCCUAGGAAAAGCAAAUCAACCGAUGGAAACGUCAGAUCCGAAGGCGAUUGCUGAGCGUGGCGGCGGCGGCGAGAGGAGGGAGAUGGGGGAGAUGGUCGCUUACCAUCCGCGGGCCCCGAGAAGGCUCUUGUGGAGGGGGCGUGUGGUGGCGAGAUGAGGCUAGGGUUUCAGCAGGAAGGGGGGAAUGGUGGGGAGAGACGGUGUUUCGGUGGGAAGGGGGGAAUGGCUAGGGUUUCCGACGGCGGCGCGGUUCGGUGGCUGGGGCGAGAGGGGAGACGGCGGUGCGGAGUGGGGCAGGGCAACGGGCGACGGAGAUGGGGGAGAAGGGGCGCCGUGGGAGAGAGAGCGAGGGGGCGAUGGGGACACGGGACGAGGGGGCUUUCCCCUCGUCGAUGGGGUGGCGGCGUGGGGUGGAGUGGGAGUGAGGUUGUGGGUCCAUUUAGGGUUAGAUGGAGGUUAGGUGGGCUGGCUUGGGUCGGGCGAUUUGGGCCAAGGGGGUUUUCUUUCCGCCUUUUUAUUAUUUGUUUCUGUUUUUAUUUCAUUUUUUAACAGCUUUAGUUUUAUUUUAUUUUAGUGCAAUGAAAUCUCUUAAAAUUAAUAAUUCUUAAAGGAAAAUUCUCCUAGGUAAUAUCGGACACAUCCGAACAUUUUUAUUUUGACAUUCAAAAACUUUUAUUGCUUUAUUUUAUUUUUAAAUUCAUUUUCAAACUGUUUGAACUAAUGCAAGAUCAACAAUAGAAAUCACGGUGACGUGGCAACAUUAGUGUGGAAUCACUGUAGCUUAAUUACAUAGGUUACUGUAGCAACAAUUGAGGAUAUCACGUCGACCUCCACCGAGCCCUCCAUCGACUGUGGACGGCUCAGAUUGGAUAUAGUGGGGUAAUCCAUGAGAAUAGUUAUCAUUGGUUGGAAACAUCUACAAUUUAAAAUACUAGUUUCUAAGUGGUAAAAAUAUUGAGGGAAACUGGCGGAACUAAAUGAGCUAAAAUUUGGUGGAGUGAGGUUAUAUGGUCAGUUUCAUCCCGUGGUAAAAUUUCAUCAACUAUAAAUCAAUAUAAAAUGUACUUGCUUCACAAAAUUAAAAUAUUAGCACAAACAAAGAUUGAAUGAUGAGCUCACAUGGAUUGCUAGAUGGGGCUAAAAUUUUGUUGAGAACUAUGUUUUCGGCACAUAGAAGAUGUGGAAAAAAUUCAACUCAUCAGGAUAUUCCUAUCUAGUACUUCCUUCACAAAGCUAUUAGCUGAACACAAAUUUUGGAAAAUUUGUGAGAAAGAUUUACUAGGCAAAUCGUUACGAAAGUUUUCAUGAGGCAAUGAUUUGGAUAGGAAAGAGUGCGCAAAAAAUAUAAGGGUAAUCAAAGAAAUAGAAAUAGCACUUCCUUCACAAAAUGCUAUUUUGAACAGAGUAGGAAAAUGAAUAUUGCAGAAUUAUUUUUAAACUAUGGAAGGAAGGAUUUUUCACAUAUUUAAGGAAUAUAUGAUCCAAAGUAUUUAUGAGAAUUUUUUGAGAAUUUUUGGAAUGAUAGAAUAGUAGGUUGCUUCACAAACUAGGAUGAGGUGGGAUAGAAUGGACCCACGAGUGACAUGAUAGAAUAGUAGGAUGAGGUGACAUAGUUAGAACAUGUUACGACAUUUUUAUAAUCGUCGUAAAAGUUAUGACGAUCUCAUCUUAUGCGGUUACGACGUUUUUGACUCACAUCGUCAUAAUUUAUAUGUAGAUUUGAUCCCCUCAAACGGUUUACGAUGAUCUCGGAUGAAAUCGUCAUAGAAUUAUGACGAAUUCAUCAACGACAUCUAAAAAAACGUCAUGUAUGAGUAUAUUUCUUGUGGUGAAUGACCCACCAGCGCGUGGGAUCGAGGCGGUUUUCGAGGGUAGAGUAUUCAACCCAAAUUUGGUGAUUCGCCAAUAGGAAGUGAGAGGAUACUCUCAAGUAUUAGCAGCUGAAUGUGUCAGAUUCAACCACACCUGAAAGAUUAAUAUCUACAAGCAAAGUAACAACAACAAAGUAGUAUGAUAGCAACGGUGUCAGAAACAAUCUGUUGACGGCAGACUAUUCCUAACUGUCGUAUCAAUGGCGCCAGAAGUUGCCCGUUGACGGAAAUUGACUUUUCCCGUCAACGUCGAGCGAAUCAGAAUUGUAGCAGGUAGCAGCAGUGUAAUGAGUAGAAGAAGUGGCAAGGAACAGAAGUAGUGACAGCAGUAGCAAGUAGCAACAGUAGCAAGUAACAAUAGUAGCAAGUAGCAAAAGUAGCAAGUAACAGCAGAGCAAGUAACAGCAGCAGAGCAAAACAAGUAACAGCAGCAGUGGGACAAACUCAUAGGCAAUGGGUCGGUGAUUUGUUUGGAUGAUAUUCANNNNNNNNNNGAGUUAUAACAUGGAGAGAUAUGUGGCUAACUCCUGUUCGUCAAUGUGAUGUAGGCAUGCAUUCCGUGUGUCGUCAUACGUGCUUAGGGAAAAGAACUUGCAUGACAUGUAUUGUCCAUCCCUCCCGUGGCAGCGGGGUCCAAAAGGAAACUACGGGAUAUUAAGGUUCUCCUUUUAAUAAAGAACCGGACCAACGCAUUAGCACUUGGUGAACACAUGAACUCCUCAAACUAUGGUCAUCACUGGGAGUGGUUCCGGUUAUUGUCACUCCAGGGUUGCUGGAUCAUAACACAUAGUAGGUAACUACAACUUGCAAGAUCGGAUCUAAAACACACAUAUAUUGGUGACAAUAUAACAAUUUCAGAUCUGAAAUCAUGGCACUCGGGCCCUAGUGACAAGCAUUAAGCAUGGCAAAGUAGUAGCAACAUCAAUCUCAGAACAUAGUGGAUACUAGGGAUCAAUCCCCAUCAAAACUAACUCGAUUACAUGAUAGAUCUCAUCCUACUCAUCAUCGCCCAGCGAGCCUACGAAUAGAUUACUCACGAACGACGAAGAGCUUCAUGGAAUUGGAGAGGGAAGAAGGUUGAUGAUGACGAUGGCGACGAUUUCCCCUCUCCGGAGCCCAAGACGGACUCCAGAUCUUCCUUCCAAAUGAAGAACAGGUGGUGGCGGCGCCUCCGUAUCGAAAACGCGACGAAAACUUCUCUUUUUUUUUCUGGGACGAAAGGGAUCUUAGAGCUGGAGUUGGGGGCAACAGAGCCGCGUGGGCCCCACAAGCCUGCCCACCGCCACCAGGAGGAGUGGUGGUGGAGCCAGGGCUUGUGGCCCACUGGCCCACCGCCUGAGGUGGAACUUCACGCAGAUAUUUUUGAUAUUUUCCAAAACUGCUCCCCGUAAAUUUUCAGGACGUUUGGAGAACUUUGGUUUCUGCACAAAAAUAACACCAAGGCAAUUCUGCUGAAAACAACGUUAGUCCAGGUUAGUUCCAUUCAAAUCAUGCAAAUUAGAGUCCAAAACAAGGGCAAAAGAGUUUGGAAAAGUAGAUAUGAUGGAGACGUAUCAACUCCCCCAAGCUUAAAACCUUGCUUGUCCUCAAGCACCUCAGUUGACAAACUGAGAGAGAAAGAAAAACUUUGACAAACUCUGUUUGAUCUUGUUGUUGCAACUAUGUCUAACUCAUAACCAGAAUUACAGCAAGAUCACAAGUUAACCACAUAAGCAAAUGACACAAAGGUCUCACGGUAAACUAAUAUCAAUGGCAUAAUGAGCUAACGAGCAAAUAAUAAUGAGUUACAAAUACCAACACUUCAAUCAAAACGAGCAUGAAGCAAUAUGAAUAGGUGGUAUCUCGCUAGCUCUUUCUGAGACCGCAAAACAUAAAUGCAGAGCACUUUCAAAGAUCAAGGGCUGACUAAACAUUGUAACUCAUAGCAACGAAGAUCCAGUCAUAGUCAUACUCAAUAUCAAUCAAAAGCAAAGCAUAAAAAUGACAGAGGUGCUCUCUAAUUGGUGCUUAUAUAAGAUGAGGAUGACUCGACGGGAAAAUAAAUAGACAGACCCUUUGCAGAGGGAAGCAUUGAUUUGCAGAGGUGCCAGAGCUGAAGCUUUGAAAACAGAGAUAAUAAUUUUGGGUGGCAUGCUUUCAUUGUCAGCGCAAUGACCAAGAGUUCUCAAUAUCUUCCAUGCUACUCAUGCUAUAGGCGGUUCCCAAACAGAAAAGUAAAGUUUUAACUCCCCCACCACCAAUCAAUCACACUCCACGGCUAGCUGAAUCCUCGGGUACCGUCCAUACUAACAUCAAUCCGGGGGGAGUCUUGUUUUACAGUUAUGUUUUCGAUUUAAGCGUGGAACUGGGCAUUCCAAUUACCGGCCCAUUUCUCGUGAAUGACUGUGAAUAAACACAUGUCGAGGAUAACACUCCUAGCAUGGAAGAUACCAAUAGACCUCUCUCACCACAUGAGCAGUUUGGGCAUGCAAAACAAAUUAUUUCUUGAAGGUUUAGAGAAUGACACAUGCAAAUUUACUUGGAACGGCAGGUAGAUACCGCAAAUAGGUAGGUAUGGUGGACUCUCAUGGAAAAACUUUUGGGUUUAUGGAUGUGGAUGCACAAGCAGUAUUCCACUUAGUACAAGUGAAGGCUAGCAAAAGACUGGGAAGCGACCAACUAGAGAGCGACAACAGUCAUCAACAUGCAAUGAGUUUGACUAACAUUGAAUGCAAGCAUGAACACGAUAUAAAUCACCAUGAACACGAACGUCAUAGAGGCUAUGUUGAUUUUGUUUCAACUACAUGCAUGAACAUGCGCCAAGUCAAGCCACUUGAAUCNNNNNNNNNNUUUUAUGUAAGUGGAUGCAUAAGCAGUAUUCCGCUUGGUACAAGUGAUGGGUAGCAAAAGGCAACAGUUAUCAAGAUGCAAUGAGUUUGACUAACAUUGAAUGCAAGCAUGAACAGGAUAUAAAUCACCAUGAACACGAACAUCAUAGAGGCUAUGUUGAUUAUGUUUCAACUACAUGCAUGAACAUGCGCCAAGUCAAGCCACUUGAAACAUUCAAAGGAGAAUACCAUCCUAUCAUACUACAUCAUAGUCAUCUCAAAAUCUAUGUUGGCAUUCAAGACAAACCAUUAUAAGCUCUCAGCUAAAUAAGCAUGGCAUCAGAAACUAUGAUCUCUAAGUUGUCAUUGCAAACAUGGUUCUCUCACAACAAAGCUAAAUCAGGCAUGACAAGCUAGUCAUAUUUACAAAAACAAAAUAGAUAGAGUUCAUACCAGCUNNNNNNNNNNCAGUCUCAGUCACUUCAUCAUAUAUCAUCAUUAUUGUCUUUCACUUGCACGAUCGAACGAAGUGAACAAUAAUAAGAGUUCUCGUGCAUUGGACUAAGCUGAAUCUGCAGGCAAACACAAAGGAGAAGACAAAGUAAUAUGGCUCUUUGAAAGCUAAACAGGUAUGCAUGCAAGAACCACUAAACAUUGUAACCAAUAUCUUCUACCUUGACACAAAGAAAAAGAAAACUAUUUACACGAGAAAGCUCCCAGCAAGCAAAAGAAGAAAGAAAAAUACUUUUGGGUUUUCUCAAAAUGACACAAAACAAGAAAACGAAAAUAAACUAGCAUGGAUAAUACAGUGGCAAAGUGUGAACACCGGCUAACAAAGGGAAAGCAUAAGCAUGAACGUAAGGUCGGUGAGAACACGCACUCCCCCAAGCUUAGGCUUUUGGCCUAGCUUGGUCUACUCCCAUGGAUGGUCCUGGCGAAACCCAAAAUCAUAAUGGGUGUUAUACGGGAGUGCUGCAGCCACUGCCUGAAUAGGUGCAUCACGAAGUCGAGCAGCCGUCGCCUCCCUCUCAUACUCCUCUGCCUCUCCUAUUGUUAUGUAGUAUAUUUGUUUUACCUGAAAGUCAAAGAAAGCAGGAGCANNNNNNNNNNNNNNNNNNNNNNNNNNNNNNNNNNNNNNNNNNNNNNNNNNNNNNNNNNNNNNNNNNNNNNNNNNNNNNNNNNNNNNNNNNNNNNNNNNNNGGCACACAUCAAGUAGUUGCCAUCAAGGGUAAAAAGAUGGGGGUUUUAUCAUUGGUUUGAGAUUAUCCCUCUACAUCAUGUCAUCUUGCUUAAGGCGAUACUCUAUUCUUAUGGACUUAAUACACUAGAUGCAUGCUGGAUAGCGGUCAAUGUGUGGAGUAAUAGUAGUAGAUUCAGACAGUAUCGGUCUACUUGUUUUGGACGUGAUGCCUAUAGAAAUAAUCAUUGCAUAGAUAUCGUCACGACUUUGCGCGGUUCUAUCAAUUGCUCGACAGUAAUUUGUUCACCCACCGUCUACUUGCUUUCAUGAGAGAAGCCACUAGUAAACACUACGGCCCCCGGGUCUAUUCACAUCCAUCAUUUACAUCUCCGCUUUUACUUUGCUUUGUUACUUUGUUGCUUUCAGUUAUCACUUGGCAAACAAUCUAUAAGGGAUUGACAACCCCUUCAUACCGUUGGGAGCAAGUUUUUGUGUUUGUGCAGGAUCUUGAGAUACUCCUCCACUGGAUUGAUGCCUUGGUUCUCAAACUGAGGGAAAUACUUACCACCGCUACGCUACAUCACCCUUUCCGCUUCGAGGGAACACCAACGCAAGGCUCAAAGUCUCCCCUUUUACUUUGCUUUGUUACUUUGUUGCUUUCAGUUCUCACCUGGCGAACAAUCUAUAAGGGAUUGACAACCCCUUCAUAGCGUUGGGAGCAAGUUUUUGUGUUUGUGCAGGAUCUUGAGAUAAUCCUCCACCGGAUUGAUACCUUGGUUCUCAAACUAAGGGAAAUACUUACCACCGCUACGCUACAUCACCCUUUCCGCUUCGAGGGAACACAAACGCAAGGCUCCAAGGCCACGGGGGAAAUCCUUUGCAUACUUACCUAGGAAGUCCCUUAAGGCAUAGCCGCAGCAGAAAGAUCAAGCCAAGUAUUCUCCCGUCUACGUGCCUAUUUCUGGCGCCGUUCGAAGGUCUUUUUUUGCAGUAGCAACCAGCUAAAUCAACAUUUCUAGCUCAAGAAUAGGGUCACCAAGGUAGCAAGAAUACGCGAAGGAUAAAACAGUAGAGCAAAAACUAAUUGGAGCAAUGGAGGUGUCACUUACCAAGAAGUAAUUUCCCCAAAACGGUUCGGAUAAUGGUGCUUUGAGCAAGGAGAUCGAAAAUCACAGCCAAAUGAGCAAGAACACGGGUUUGAGCUACGAAACAAUUUUUUCUGGAGGUGAAAGAAGAGGAUGGGAGUUGGAAUGAGUGGAGGGGGUCCCUGUGGGCCGCACAAGCUUGCUAGCCGCCACGAGGGGGGGCGGCAGCUGCAGGGCUUGUGGCCCACUGGUCGGGCCCCCAGGCCAGCUCUCAGGCCCAGUAUUUUUCAAAUAUUCUAGAAAAAAUCAUACUAGAUUUUCAGGACCAUCGGAGAACUUUUAUUUUCGGGGUAUUUUUCUCCAGGACGCUAAAACAGAAAACAGGAAAAUCUAAACUAAAUCUAUCAUUUUUCUUCUAAGCAAUAGAAAAUGAAAGCUCAAAACAGAGUUAUGUGACUCUUUGAUUCAUCCAUUUCAUGGUCAUCGAAAGAAAUCCGUCAAUGGGGUUGAUCAAGUCCUCAUGACAAAACCUUCUCGAAUCGCAAGAGAGAACGGAGAAUUUUCGAAUAACCACUAAGUCACCUCAAUGGGGAUAUGUAUCUCCCCAACAAGCAAAUCAUACUUCAUCUUGACACGAGGAAUAGGGCAUUCAAAGCUCCCAACAAGAAUCGAUGAAGGCUUUUCAAUAGCAUUGAUGCAAUGUACUUGAUAUCGUUUCUUCGGAAAGUGCACUGUGUGCUCAUUACCGUUGACAUGGAAAGUGAAAUUGCCUUUGUUGCAAUCUAUAACAGCCCCUGCAGUGUUUAAAAAGGGUCUUCCGAGGAUGACGGCCAUGGCAUCAUCCUCGGGAAUAUCCAAGAGAACAAAGUCUGUUAAGAUAGUAGUCUUAGCAACCACAACAGGCACAUCCUCGCAAAUGCCGAUAGGGAAAGCAGUUGAUUUGUCGGCCAUUUGCAGAGAAAUUUCNNNNNNNNNNUUCAAGUCUACGAUAAAGAGAGAGCGGCAUAACACUAACACCGACUCCAAGGUCACAUAAGGCAUUUCUUACGUAGUUUCCUUUAAUAGAACAAGGUAUAGUGGGCACUCCGGGAUCACCAAGUUUCUUAGGAGUUCCACCUUUGAAAGUGUAAUUGGCAAGCAUGGUGGAGAUCUCAAGAUCUGGUAUCUUCCGUUUAUUAGUCACGAUAUCUUUCAUUUACUUGGCAUACAGAGACAUUUUGAGCAUAUCAGUUAACCGCAUCUGCAGAAAGAUGGGUCUUAUCAUCUCAACAAAGCGCUCAAAAUCCUCAUCAUCCUUUUUCUUGGAUGUCUUGGAGGAAAGGGCAUAGAUCUCUGAACCCAUGGAUCCCUUUCUUUACCAUGCUUCCUAGCAGUGAAGUCAUUCUUAUCGUAUCUCUUAGGUUGUGGGUUAUCAGGAUUAACCGUAGGUUCAAUCUCCACAUCCUCAUCAUUGCUAGGUUGUGCAUUAUUAUGAACAUCACUGUCCAUAUUGUCACCAGGUUCAUGUUCAUCACCAGAUUGUGUUUCUGCAUCAGACGCAGAAAUAUCAUUAGAUUCUUCAGGUGUGACAGUAUUUGGUGAACUGGCAUGUAGGUUUCUAUCAUCCUUCUUCUUCUCAUUAGGAUGACUGGGUGUAUCAGCAUUAAUUCCUUGAGAAUCUUGAUCAAUUCUCUUAGGAUGACCUUCAGGAUACAAAGGUUCCUGAGUCAUUUUGCCUCAUGUAGUAAUGACUCUGACAGAGUUGUCUUUUAACUCAUUGAGCAAGUCAUUCUGAUCUUUAAGUACUUGUUCUACCUGAGUAGUAAUCAUAGAUGAAUGUUUACUCAGAAGCUUCAGAUCAUUGACAUUUCUGUCUACACAAGCACUUAAAUGGCUAAGCAUACGAGUACUUUGUUCCAAAUGUCUGCUAACAUAAGCAUUGAAACUCUGUUGUUUGGCAACAAAGUUGUCAAAUUCAUCAAAGCAUAGGCUAGCAGGUUUGUCAAAAGGAAUAUCACUCUCAUCAAACCUACAUAGAGAAUUCACUUCUACUACUUGUAUCGGGUUAUCGAGACCAUGGAUCUCUUAGAUAGGUGGUAGAUUUUUGACAUCUUCAGAUCUAAUGCCUUUCUCUUGCNNNNNNNNNNAUCAAAAGGAAUAUCACUCUCAUCAAACCUACGCAGGAAUAUCACUCUCAUCAAAGGCUCACUACCUAUAGGUUAUCGAGACCAUGGAUCUCUUCAAUAGGUGGUAGAUUUUUGACAUCUUCAGAUCUAAUGCCUUUCUCUUGCAUAGAUUUCUUGGCUUCUUGCAUAUCUUCGGGACUGAGGAAUAGAAUACCUCUUUUCUUAGGAGUUGGCUUAGGAGGUGGUUCGGGAAUAGUCCAAGCAUUAUCGUUGAUCAAGAUGUUAUUCAGUAGGAUCUCAGCUUGUUCGAUAGUUUGUUCCCUAAAAACACAACCGGCACAACUAUCUAGGUGGUCUCUAGAGGCAUCGGUAAGUCCGUUAUAGAAGAUAUCAAGUAUCUCGUUCUUCUUAAGAGGGUGAUCAGGCAAAACAUUUUGUAGUUGGACGAUCCUCCCCCAAGCUUGUGGGAGACUCUCUUCUUGGAGUUGAGCAAAGUUGUAUAUUUCCUGCAAGGCAGCUUGCUUCUUAUGGGCAGGGAAAUUUUUCUCACAGAAGUAAUAGACCAUAUCCUAGGGACUACUCACACAUCCAGGAGCAAGAGAGGUGAACCAGGCUUUAGUGUCAUCCUUUAAAGAGAAAGGAAACAACUUAAGGAUGUAGUAAUGGCGGAUCUUCUCCUCACUAGUGAAAAGGGUGGCUAUAUCGUGUAGUUUGGUAAGAUGGCCUACGACCGUCUCAGACUCAUAACCGUGGAAAGGAUCAGAUUCGACUAGAGAGAUUAUCUCAGGAUCGACAGAGAAUUCAUAAUCCUUAUCGGUGAUAAAGAUAGGUGAAGUGGCAAACUUCGGGUCGUAUUUCAUCCUAGCUUUCAUUCAUCCUAGCUUUCAGAGAUUUUUCCUUCCACUUGAGAAGUAAUUUCUCAGCGUCAUAGGCAUCCUUACACGCAAGAAAAUCCUCAUCUAUCUCUCCCUCCAUAACAUAACCCUCAGGUAUAUCAGGCAAUUCAUAUCUAGGAGAGCUAGAUCUAGCAGGAGAAAAAGCAGGUUCUAUCUCAAUAGUAUCGGCAUUUUCAGAAGCAUCACGAGCAAUGGCAGUAGCUCUAGCAAUAUGAGCAUCAAGGAACACCCCUAGUGGAACAUCAGGCAAAGUAGCGUCUCUAGCAGUAUCAAGCAUAGCAUCAUGAGGCAUAGCAUCUCUAGCAGUAUCAGGCAUAGCAUCGCUAGCAGUAUGAGGCAUAGCAUCUCUAGCAGUAUCAGGCAUAACAUCUCUAGUAGUAUCACGCAUAGCAGCAUCAUAAGCAUCAUCAAGCACAGGCGACAUAUCAAGAUUUCUAGCAGGAGGUGAUGUCGCAAACUUACUCAUAACUGAAGGUGAAUCAAGUGCAAAGCUAGAUGGCACUUCCUUACCUCCCCUCGUAGUUGAGGGCAAGACUUUGGUUUUCGGAAACUUCAGAUUCUUCAUAGUGAUCAGCAGAUAUAAAUCCCAAGUAACUUAGAGAAUAUAGCAAUCGCAUCCCCGGCAACGGCGCCAGAAAAAUGCUGAUGGCACUCUCUGGCAAUGGCUAGACGAAUGCUAUUCUCGAUUGCUCAACAAUUAGAAAUUGUCUUGCAAUGACCCACCAGCGCGUGGGAUCGAGGUAGUUUUCGAGGGUAGAGUAUUCAACCCAAAUUUGUUGAUUCGCCAAUAGGAAGUUGGAGGAUACUCUCAAGUAUUAGCAGCUGAAUAUGUCAGAUUCAACCACACCUGAAAGAUUAAUAUCUGCAAGCAAAGUAUCAACAACAAAGUAGUAUGAUAGCAAUGAUGUCAGAAACGAUCUGUUGAUGGCACACUAUUCCUAACUAUCGUAUCAAUGGCGCCAGAAGUUGCCCGUUGACGGAAAUUGUCUUUUUCUGUCAACGUCGAGCGAAUCAGAAUUGUAGCAGGUAUCAGCUGUGUAACGAGUAGCAGCAGUGGCAAGGAACAGUAGUAGUGACAGAAAUAGCAAGUAACAGCAGUAGCAAGUAACAGCAGUAGCAAGUAGCAACAGUAUUCAUCAUGCAACAGUUAUAACACGGAGAUAUAUGUGGCUAGCUCCCGUUCGUCAAUGUGAUGUAGGCAUGCAUUCUGUGUGUAGUCAUACGUGCUUAGGGAAAAGAACUUGCACGACAUCUAUUGUCCAUCCCUCCCGUGGUAGCGGGGUCCAAAAGGAAACUACAGGAUAUUAAGGUUCUCCUUUUAAUAAAGAACCGGACCAAAGCAUUAGCACUUGGUGAACACAUGAACUCCUCAAACUAUGGUCAUCACCGGGAGUGGUUCCGGUUAUUGUCACUCCGGGGUUGCCGGGUCAUAACACAUAGUAGGUAACUACAACUUGCAAGAUUGGAUCUAAAACACACAUAUAUUGGUGACAACAUAAUAAUUUCAGAUCUGAAAUCAUGGCACUCAGGCCCUAGUGACAAGCAUUAAGCAUGACAAAGUAGUAGCAACAUCAAUCUCAGAACAUAUUGGAUACUAGGGAUCAAUCCUCGGCAAAACUAACUCGAUUACAUGAUAGAUCUCAUCCUACUCAUCACCGCCNNNNNNNNNNCGAACAAUGAAGAGCUUCAUGGAAUUGGAGAGGGAAGAAGGUUGAUGAUGACGAUGGUGACGAUUUCCCCUCUCCGGAGCCCAAAACGGACUCCAGAUCUGCCCUCCAGAUGAAGAACAGGAUGUGGNNNNNNNNNNNNNNNNNNNNNNNNNNNNNNNNNNNNNNNNNNNNNNNNNNNNNNNNNNNNNNNNNNNNNNNNNNNNNNNNNCUGGGACGAAUGUGAAUUUAUAGAGCUGAGUUUGGGGGCGGCAGAGCCACGUGGGCCCCACAAGCUUGCUACCCGCCACCAGGGGGGUGGCAGCUAUAGGGCUUGUGGCCCACUGGCCCAUCCCCUCUGGUGGAUCUUUGCGCGGGUAUUUUUCAUAUUUUCUAGAAAUAUUCUUCGUAAAUUUUCAGGACGUUCUGAGAACUUUCAUUUCUGCACAAAAACAACACAAAGGCAAUUCUGCUGAAAACAGCGCGAGUCCAGGUUAGUUCCAUUCAAAUCAUGCAAAUUAGAUUCCAAAACAAGGGCAAAAGAGUUUGGAAAAGUAGAUACGAUGGAGACGUAUCAAUGACGACAAGUACUAUCAAGCAAUGGAGAAUAAAUGCUAAUGAUAUAGAGAUGUGAAACCUCUAUGAAUGAAGAACCGAAAAAACUCCAUCCUCAAAAACGACAUAGAAUAUGCAUAUGAACUCCGUUUUCGAUGAACUUGAACUUGUCAUGAAUAUGACCAUAAGCUCAAGAACGCGCAUAGGGAAAAACCAUCCAAGAACCAAGAAAGAUUAUCUUUCCAAUAAUGCAUUGGUUUGAGCUCUCAACAGACGAUAUGAUCAAGCUACUCACUUGAGAGCCCCCCUUGGUAGUACGACAAUCUAUCCUAUAACCCGGUCUCCCAACUAACGCGCUGAGACCGGUAAAAUAGAAAACCUAUUAAGGACAAAUAUUUGCCUUGCGCAUAGUCCACUUGAGCUAAAUGAUGAUGAUGUUGUACUCCUCAAGAUUGACCACCUUCCUUCAUUGUGUUGGCUUGAUGAAGACUAGUUGAUUGCGCCCCAUACUUCACUAUAGGAAAGCAACUCUUCGGCACAUCUUCACCAUAGUGGACGACAAGAUUCAAGCAUGAUCUCGUCUGAUGCUCCACUUGAACUUGCACGCUGCAAUCUUCCAUGGGUUGAAUGAGACUUCCUGUUGACGCGGUCCCAUGGAAACACACCUACCCCACAUAGAACUUUCACAAAGACCAUGGGUUAGUACACAAAGCGUAAUGGACAAUGCUUACCGUACCAUGGGCUCACUUGAUCCCUCUCGGUACAUCUUGUACGCUUUGUGUGUUGAUCAACUUGAUUUACUCUUUGACUUAGUCUUGACCAACGUUGUGUAUUUAUGACCAAUCUUUGGAUAAAACCUUGAAUACCAUAUUGGUCAUCAUAUAAACUCUUUGAAACCAUUAGAUGGACUUCAAGAAGUGCCUAUGAACAAAUCCUUCGAAUAUAACUCAAGGCAAGCAUAUGCUCUAACAAUUCCCUACCAGGCACAUCAUUCAAAAGGAUGGAAGGUGUUCCAUAGGAUAGUAUCUUAUUGAUCCAAGUGAUGGAUCCAAUUUUUACGCACUUUUUAUAGCUCAUUUGUCGCCUAUUAUCUCCAUAUAGCAUGUUCUAUUGAGCAAAUGACAUGUACAUAUGCAUAAUUUCAAUUAUUUAUCAUGUCCAACACAAGGAUUGCAUAAUCGUUAUUCUUUGUUAGUGCUUAUAUGUGUCUUAUUUGUUUUUGUGUGUUUUGUAAGCAAUGUGGAACUCCCAUCCACUUAACACAAUGAAAAGGAUCCAAACGGAGGACAUCUAGGCACCAGACUUAGGCAGUCGGUUUUCAGAUGCUAAAAAUCAAUAUCUGCAUUGUAGGUUCAUGAGCGUUCUUCUCGUGAUUCCAACGAGUAGAGGAACGUUGAAAACAGAGUAUGGAUGUCAAAUUUACAAUUUUACCGAAGAGUCCAAACCAUUUAGUGACCUUUGGGAGGGAAAAAAUACUCGUCCCAGGCCCACACAAGCUCAAAAGUUGCAGGAUUUCAUUAUCGUUUGUUCCUACUACUUUCUUGUCCAUCAAGGGAUGUUUUGGGAAAGGAUUUGGUUCACCGAGAGCACUUAUAUCAAAGUAGAUGCUACAUCAAUGAAAGAGGGUUUGGGAGAGCUCUUAUAAAUAUAUCUCCAACCCUAACCACUCGGGGACACCAUCCAUAUCCACCUAUCCAUGCUCAGCUGUCAUCCCCAUCAAGAGGAACUUGGGGGUUGUGCCAAGCCUACAUCUCCAUUGUUGCAACCUUGGAGGAAGACUAGGAGGGAGUCAUGCUGGAAAAGCGUCAUGGGGGCUGCGGUCAUGGGCCAUAGCUGUCACAUCGUCCUCACCUAGCUACACCCCUUCUCAUUCCCCCAUCACGGUCUCCGUGAUGAAUUGUAACAACUCUUGAACCCCUUUAUAUGUGAUGUUAUUUGAGUAAUUCUUGGCUAUGGGUUGAUCAGCUAGUAAGCAUUUAUUUGAUAUGCGUCGUCUAUUUAUGCCUAUCAUCUUCAUGUUAUUAUUUACCCUUGCGGUAAUUUAGUGAUUGCAGCUGUACCGUCCAUUAGUGUAGUUGGAGACGUUCAACUCCCUAGGUCACACAUGAAGUUGAUAGAUACUUGUCCAUAUCGAGAGACCUCCGGGGUGACAGGCAUCGAUAUCUUGAGGGGAAUAAAAUUAUCCGAAGGAUCACGGUUGUUCAUAGAACUUAUUGCAUUCGGUUCAUGCCUUAUGAUAUUAAUGUCUUUCUUUUGCCCACUCACAGUAUGGGACAGGAAAUAGGAAGAGAGAGUUGUCUGAGUAUGACGAUGUUUGAGAGACAAUGUUAUGUGAGGGACCGCCCACCAUUGAUCAAUUGCGAUAUCGUAUAAUGCAAGGUAUAGACUUAAUUGUAGGUUUUAAUAGUUGAGAUAUAGAGCUUUUUGUCCUACCCACUAAUGUUUAAAACAAGGUAUGGUGUAGCUCAGCUCCAUUGUCACAAAGAGUGGUAAAAAAGUUGAGAUAUAGAGCUUUUCUUUUCGUUCCUACGCACAUAGUUGAAAAAAUCACAUCAAGGCCAAUGGACCAAAGAACAGCCAUUCCCUUCGCCAAAGCGAGGCGCAGAUGCGCUGUUGUCUUCUCUCCCACACAGGAGCUAGCCUCAUCAUGUCCAUGACAACUAGGAAGUCUUACUUGCACGUGCCCCUAAGUACCUGUGUUCUGGAACCACGGUUAUCCCCGAAUCGGUUUGAAGAACCUGACACGAAAUCUCGAUGUGCGUACGCACCCGAGAGGCUCCAUCUAAUCCUUCCUCGUGGACGAACUUCAAGAGGAUCGGAUCCCGAAAGACUAACUCGAAGAAGAAGCAUAACCAUCCAUCCCAGCACCAUCCGUAUGAGAGCUAAAACCCUACCUAUGUACUAGACGGAGCUGAGGCACCAGGAGUCCCCUUCCCGCCGAGGGGAGUCAUAUACAUAGGUUGGUCGACGGAUGUCAAGGGGAUGAAAGCUUUACCUAGUCGCCUUGCGAGAGGGGAAAGAACUUGUUCUACGUGUGGUCGGUUACUAUGCUAGUUGAGUUAAUUAUACCAAGAAAACACAUAUUUCAUUUUGAGAAACAUGCAUGUACACCACCCCUUUCAAUGCGCACACACACACUCUAUGCCUAUGAACAUUUACGAGAGAGUGAGCCAACAGACCUUAUGAUAAAAUAAAAAUACUUUACCCGCACCACUCAAAUGGCGUACUCAGACAAUUUGUAAUCAAAAAAUCUUGGGCUUAAAAUGAAACCAAAAACAAGGAAAGGUGGAAAAAGGUUGUGUGGCAACCACCCUAUAACAUCAAGAACUGAAACUUCCAUCAGACACAAUGCAUCUGAGGGCCACGCAACCUUUGAAAUGGAUAUGGCAGUGGCUGCAACAAGGCCAUUCCCAGGUACAACAAAUAAAGUCUGAGUUCAUCAAAACAAUGCCUUCAACAAGGCCAUUGCCACGUACAAAUAAUAUAGGCCAGACCAUUAGCUUUCACCAUGGAAAUCAAAACUCAUUACUCGAGGAGCAGCAUCAAAUUGCAGUCCUUCAGUGUUGCCGCCCCCGCUUGCCGAGACCGCUGUUGCAAGUCACCAAACACCUGGCACAUAGUCUUCAUCGUAUCCAAUACACCCUUCCAAUAAAGCUUAAGACCUCCAAUCACAGCGUCCAAGACUUCCUCCACCUCUAUUCAUGCCUUAGAAAUCAUAAAUUCGACAUGUCCAUGACACCCGUAAGAAAUCGAACAUUCGCGCCAUGCCCUCUCGAGCUGGGUUGGAUGAUAAUAUUAGCGCGCGCAACCGGAGCCUUUCCAGUCUAGAUAUCCAGGUUCGACAUACGUCAAUCUGUAUAGAUCUCUGAGGGGGAAGACCAGAAUGCGUCAGCAACCCGAUCCAAGAGGUCGACAUUAGGUAGAAAGACAACUUGGCGGAACAAAAGCGCUAUGGCCAAAGCACCAUUUUUAGGCCGAACCACACUCACCCACCUCCAAAGAAAACGAGCCACUCCGCACUAUGCCAAAUGCUCCAGCCACCAUACCGAGCACCACUCCGAGAAACACACCCCUGAACAACCUCCAUUUUACGGACUCAUGGCGCCAGGUCCCGAAUCCGGCUGCUCCCCGGGAGGAACGAGUCACUAGACGGCGUAGCAGCAAGCACCGGCUAUGCAUGCACUCCGGCCUGGUCGGUCCAGAGUGAUCACGAUGUUCAUCCACAUGAUUGCUAUAUCAUUGAGAGGUCAUGGUUGAUCGCAUCAUUUUGCAGGGUGCUUCAUCAUCAUGAAAUGAAUGAAUAUACGCUUCCUUUUUUGUGGGUUAGAUUCCACGAUGAUACAAAAUCUGGACUCACGAUACAUAAUUUAUGGGUUCAGUGGGGACGACAUGAACAGAGCAAAUGGACAACAGUGGGUUCUAAAAUUUUAGCUCAUGGAUGAAAACAAAGUUUUACCUUGCUUGGACACCCAAUUAAGUAGCAUUUCUACUCGCAAAAAAAAUAGCAUUUCCAAUUAAAAAAAAUCCUCCAUGACAUGUAAAUGAUUAGGCGUAGAAAAUAGUACUCCCUCCGUCACGGUUUAGAAGGCACAGUUAGACUUGCGUGCGUUUUCAAAAUAGACAAAGAUUAAGGCACAUUGCAUUUACUCCUAGCAGUUAAUUAGUAUUCCGUUGUACUAUUUCUAUAUGCAUGUGUAGUGUGAAUGCUAUUUUUUAACUCAUUGUAUAGCCAAUCAAUAACCACCUAGGUCCUAGAGAAUUUGCAUGCACGCCUUCUAAACCGUGACGGAGGGAGUACAACACUUUUGUAGUCCAAUGAAUAAUUGUGAAUAAAACAUAUAAAAGGUCAUGAUGACACACAUCACACAUGCAGCAAAUAUAUGUUAAUUACCUGCAUGAAAUGUUAUAAAAUGAAGCACCAAAGUUUACAAGCAAGCAUAAUUGGUUGACAAGUUUGUAUUAUAUAAAAGUGGAUAAAGGAUGUACGAUUAACAUUCGUCGUGCCUGUGCCACUGAACCUAAAUCGCCCAUCAACAAAGGAACUUCUUCGUGCACCUUUGAAGCGUUACCCGUCGGANNNNNNNNNNNNNNNNNNNNNNNNNNNNNNNNNNNNNNNNNNNNNNNNNNNNNNNNNNNNNNNNNNNNNNNNNNNNNNNNNNNNNNNNNNNNNNNNNNNNAUGAUCUAAACGUAUAUUUGUUCGUGCACAAUGCCCAAUUACUUCUUUUCAGAUAAAAAUACCAAGUUACUUUCGUAUGUUGCGUCAUGCUUCCCAUAAUUAUUGAUACUUCGAAACAACCUAUGCACAAGGCAAUAUAUUUUCCCGUGUAGUAGUCCAACCCAAUUUCAUUCCAACAUGAGAAAACUUGUGGAUACACCAUCUCUGCCCCUCACACGGCCUGAUGGCUGAUUGUGUCCUCAUCUAUGUCCUCCUCUUCCUCCUCCUCUCCCCUCACUCCCACCUGCCGUAGCAUCACUGUGACAUCUGUAUGCCUCCAAUUUGUCGCAUUUCUGGAGCACGAGAAAACUACAAGAGGCUAACAAGGCUACAUACGACAUAACUAUGGUAGGCUGUUGGCACUGCUGUUCACCUUCUUAAUAUCCUUGGAUGUUGGACUCUACGCCGGCCUCUCCCAUCUUGAGUGUUGGUGGCUGCAUGAUCUGAGCAUCGGCUUGGAUGGCGUCCAAUAAAGACACCAUGCAUUACUGGCAGUGUAGACUCUGACACACACAAGUAUAUGAUCUAAGCUUUUCGUUGGCCCAAAACGCACACAUACUGCAGCCAAGAUUAAUCGACAUCAAUGCCCAAUUACUUCCUUUCAUACAACAAAACAUAUCAACGCCAACAUGUGUGGGAUGAGAAGGCGCUGGGCUGCAUGCCAGUGUGGGCCUAUGCCAGGGGGACAAGACGACACUCUCAGCCUCGGAGAUGCUCCCGAUGCACUGCAAGCACCAUUGCAAAUUCGGAAUACGGUCUUUCUAUUCCCAUCUUCAUUUCCUUGUGUAUAAAUUGCUAACUGCAUGUACAUGACAGAUAGCAACAACAAAUUCUAAAACAAUCCCUCUCAUAUAGGCUAUACCACAUGGGAAAGAUCAUGAAUGUUGCGGUUCAAUUAUAAUCUAUUUGCAAUACCUAGAUUUUGUUUUUAGAUGUUUUGAGAGUAGUGUUCGUAAUUACAGAUGAAAACGUAAUCCUAUUGUUGUUGUGGCCUCUUGAUUUCUCCAUCAUAACAAGAAGAGGAAGUGUACACAUGUUGAAGUCACGUUUAGGCAUCAAUGUGAGUGGUAUGUAAGCAAACAUUGUCUAAUGGCCGACUAUAUGUUUCUUGAAUAAAAAUAAUUAUACAAUAUGAUUACAUAACGCUGCAAGCAGAUCCUAGAAAAAUAUAAAUGAAAUUGCACAAUAAAUUUUUUUGUGACCAUGAUUAUAUGAAUAUUAGUUUAGUCAUAGUAUAUCAUCAACAUAUUUAUUUUUAUGUUAUAUUUUGUAAUGCUGAUAUGUUCACAAAAAUAGUAAUAUUAGUAGUAGAAACUAAUAUUUUUGUACCAUUAUUAGUAGUAUAAUUUAUCACAAAAAUGUGAACCAAUGAUUGUAAAGCUUUUCCCACAACAUAAGCUAUUACUUGAAUGUGAUAAGGUGAGAUAGUAUUAUGACCAAAUGUUACGAGUGCAAGUUAAUUAUUAUAUCACAGAAAUAACUGAAUCAUUUCAUUUCAUUGUCUAACAAAUAAGUAUGCCCUCAAUUUGAAUUUAUUCGCAUAUGAGUAUUAUCUCGAGUUAGACUUCUACGAUACCGAAACAAUACCAUUAGACUCAUUAUUGAAUAUAUUUACACAUCUUAUAAGUUUUGAAAAAUGAACUUAUUAGGAAGUAUAAAAACCAGUCGGCCCACACAACCCACCAGAUGAAUUUAAAUUGACCUGCGAUAAAAUUAAUUACCACUCACCCUAUUAGGGUAGCCCGUGCGAAUGCACGGGUUCACGACUAGUUUAUCUAAUGUAGGUUAGAGCAACACCAACCAGGCCCCCCAAACGGACGCUCGUUUUGUCCGUGUUUUGUCCAUUUUGGUCGGCUUGUUCGUCCUGUUUUCGUUUUGGGUCCGUCGUGCGUCCAAUGCGCCCAUGCUUCUUUCGCGCUAUGCUUCUUUCGUUAGUGUGGUAGGCUUGCAGCCAUUUUUUGAUCUCUUUGUUACAUAUGUUUAAAAUUUAAUCCUAGAUUAACGAAGUUGAGUAAAAAUACAACCAUUUCAUAGUUCACAAACCACAUAAAUAUCUGAUAGUUUACAAGCCAAAUUUACAUUAAAUUGUCUCCAACACAUUUGAAAGAAAAGGUUGCCAACACAUCUAUUGGUUGCCAAUAUGAAUGCACAUAUGCUCGCAGCUGCAUGUGAGUUUCAAUCACGUAUCUGAUGAUGAAAUUGGACGAACUAUGCAAACGUGAUCACUCCUCCAUGCACAGGCACAACAUUGUCACCCUGUUGAAUCCUAGGUUUUCAUUGGAAUUGCCUACCAGGCACACCAUUCAAAAGGAUGGAAGGUGUUGCAUUGGAUAAGAUCUUGAUCCAAGUGAUGGCUCCAAUUUGUACACAAUUUUAGAGCUCAUUUGUCGCCUAAUAGCUCCAUAUAGCAUGUUCUAUUCAGCCAAUUACAUGUCCAUAUGCAUGAUAUCCAUUAUUUGUCCUUUCUGUCACAAGGAUUGCGUAAUCAUAAUUCUUUUUUAGUGCUUACUGUGUUUCUUUGUUUUUGAGUGUUUUGUAGGUAACGUGGAACUCCCAUACACUUAACCCAAUGAAAAGGAUCCAAAGGUAAGGACAUACAGGUACCAGAUUUAGGCAGUCGGUUUUUUAGUUGCUCAAAAUCGAUAUCUGAUAUUGUACGUGCAUCAGCAUUGUUUUCAUGAUUCCAACGAGCAGAAGAACAUUGAAAACAGAGUCUGGAUGUAAAAGUUACAAUUUUACCAAAGAGUCCAAAGCGUUUAACGACCUUUGGCAUGACCCAAAAUGCUCGUAUCAGGCCGUGACAAGCUCGAAAGUGGCCCUUUCCAAAGGAAUUCUUCGAGGCUUUCUUGUUCAGUGCCACAAGAAAGUGGUACUAUCAUUAUUAACUUUGUAUUUGUUGGCGUCAAUGUUAUGGACAUCAAUAUCACUACUAUCUAGAUUCAAAAAGAAUAAACCAUUCACAGUAGGCUCAUGACCAUAAAAGAUGUUACCCAUAUAAAUGGAACAACCAUUAUUCUCUAGUUUAAGUGAAUAACUGUCUCGCAAUAAACAAAAUCUAGAUAUAAUGUUCAUGCUCAAGCGGGCACCAAAUAACAAUUAUUUAGGUUUACAACUAAUCCUGAUGGUAAUCGAAGAGCGAUUGUGUCGACCGCGAUCACAUCAACCUUUGAACCAUUUCUGACGUGCAUCGUCACUUCGUCCUUUGCCAACCUUCGUUUAUUCCGUAGUUCCUGUUCAAGUUACAAAUAUGAGUAACCAAACCGUUAUCAAAUGGCAUUACUACGAGAGCUAGUAUGGUACACAUAAAUAACAUGUACAUCAAGUAUAUCUUUAUUGAUGUUGCCAGGCUUCUUAUUGGCCAGAUACUUGGGUCAAUUCCGCUUAUAGUGACCAGUUCCAUUGCAAUAGAAGCACUCAGUCUCAAGCUUGGACACAACUUUGGGUUUCUUGAGGGGGGGAACUGGCUUGUCGUUAUUCCUGAAGUUUCCCUUCCUGCCCUUGCCUUUCUUCAAACUAGUGGUUUUAUUCACCAUCAACACUUGAUGCUCCUUCUUGAGUUCUACUUCCGCGAUUUUCAGCAUCGCGAGAUUAGCUUCUUCAUCCCUUGCAUAUUAUAGUUCAUCGUGAAGUCUUUGUAGCUAGGUGGCAGUGACUAGAGAACUAUGUCAGGACCGUCUCAGGUGGAAUCUCAACUCCCAACUGAUUCAGGCGGUUGUACCACACACACAUUCUGAGUAUGUGCUCACUGACAGAACUAUUAUCUUUCAUCUUGCAGGUGAAGAAAUUAUUAGAGGUCUCAUACCUCUUGAUCCGGCCAUUUGCUCGAAAUACUAACUUCAACUCCUGGAACAUUUGAUAUGCUCCAUGGCGUUCAAAACGGUUUUGAUGUCCCAAUUCUAAGCUGUACAACAUGGUACACUGAACUAUCGAGUAGUCAUCAGCACGCGCCUGUGAGACGUUCAAAAAAUCUGCAUACGACACUAGAGGGGUGGCGUCUCAAGCGCUGCAUCAAGGACAUAAGCCUUUUGCGAAGCCGUGAGGAUAAUCCUCAGAUUAAAGACCCAGUCUGCAUAGUUAUUUCCAUCAUCUUUCAGCUUAUCUUUCUCUAGGUACACAUUCAAAUUCAGGGGAGCUACUGUGUGAGCCAUUGAUCUACAACGUAAUUUGCAAAGACAUCUAUAGACUAUGUGUCAUGACAAUGAAUUCAAUUAAUCAUAUUACUAAAGAACUCCCACUCAAAUCAACAUCCCUCAGUUGUCUAAGUGUGACAUGAUCCAAAUACACCAACCCAAGUCCGAUCAUCAUGUGAGAUGAGGUGAUUUCAAUGGUGAACAUAUCCAUUUGAUGAUAUGUACUACAUGACUCAUGUUCGACCUUUAGGUCUCCUCUAUUCCGAGGCCAUGUUUGUACAUGCUAGGCUCAUAAAGUUUAACCCAAGUGUUUUCCAUGUGCAAAACUGGCUUACAACACUUGUAUGUGAACGAAGAGUGUAUCACACCUGAUCAUCACGAGGUGCUUCGAAACAACAAACUUUCACAACGGUGAGGGAUCAACUUAUAAUGCUAUCAUUGUCCUAAGGAUAAUAAGAUGCAUAAAAUAUAAACAUCACAUGCAAAUCAUAUAAGUGACAUGAUAUGGCCAUCAUCAUCUUGUGAUUCUGAUCUCCAUAUCCAAAGCACCGGCAUGAUCUCCAUCGUCACCGGCAUGACACCAUGAUCUCCAUCAUCGUGUCGUCAUGUGGUUGUCGUGCUAACUAUUGCUAACUCAUAGUGAUAAAGUAGAGCAAAUGACACAAAUAAAUAAAAGACAACCCUAUGGCUCCUACCGGUUGUCGUACUCAUGGAGAUGGAAGUUGUGAUAACUAUACAAAACAUGAUCAUCUCAUACAUCACAUAUAUCAAAUCAUGUUUUUGGCCAUAUCACAUCACAACAUGCCCUCGACAAACAAGUUACACGUCCUCUACUUUGUUAUUGCAAGUUUUACACGGCUGCUAUGGGAAACUAGCAAAAAUCAUUCUUACAUACGCAAAGCCACAACGGUGAUAUUCAAGUUGCUAUCUAACCUUCUACAAGGACUGCCUGUGUCGAAUCCGAUUCAACUAAUUAAAUUGAGAGAGACAAACACCCGCGAACCACCUUUAUGCAAGCAAGUUACGUGUUAGUUGGUCAAACUAGUCUCUUAUGCGUGGACAGGUACGGUUGGUCCGAACCGCUCCAUCCCAGAAUAUCGCUGAAUCAAAAUAAUACUAAGGAGCUAAGCAAGAUGAACAUCAACACCCACAAACACUUUGUGUUCUACUUGUGCAUGCCAUCUAUACAGAAACCUAGCUCAUGAUGCCAGUGUUGGAGAAUGUUGCAUGGGAAACAAUAGUUUUCCUAUGUACACCCAAGAUCUAUCUAUGGAGAUGUAUAGCUACGAGACGGGGAGUGGAUCUACACACCCUUGCAGAUCACUAAGAGGAAACAUUAAGAAACGCGGUUGAUGUAGUUGUAUGUCUUCACGAUCCAAUCAUGAUUCGUCCUGAUCUAGCGCCGGUCAGACGGCACUUCCGUGUUCAGCACACGUACAGCUCGAUGACGUCUUAGCCCCCCAGAGAGCGAUGGUGGAGUAGUAGAUGAGUUCUCCAGUAGAACGGCGGCGUGGUGACGCACUAGUGGAGAAAGGGGUAUUAGAACCGGUUGGUAAGGGCCUUUGGACCCAGAUACACAUCCGGUGCUACGUAUCCGGGACUAAAGCCCCCCCCCCUUUAGCACCGGUCUCUUACAAACCGGUGCUAAAGGCCUCCACGUGGGCGCCGAAGAGUGCGCGCAGGCGGAGGACCUUUAGAACCGGUUGGUAACACCAACCGGUCCUAAUGCUUUUUUUUCUUUUUUUUCCUUUUCUUUUCACGGUUUCCGAUUCCGUAUUUUGGUGUUUCCGUGUUCCGUAUUUUCAGGGUUUUCGUUUUCGUGUUUCCAGUUCCGUAUUUCCGUUUACGUCUUUCCGAUUCCGUGUUUCCGAUUCCGUGUGUCCGUGUUUCGUUUUUUACGAACACGGAAUCGGAAACACGUAAUCGGAAACACCGAUUCCGUGUUUGCGGUUAAGUGUUUCCGAUUCCGUGUUUGCGGUUAAAUGUUGAUGCACCAAAUAAAAGUACAUAUAUACAUGUAACACGAAGUACUGGACCGAUUAUCAUUACAUAAUUUGAAGUUCGUUUCCUAUGGCUGUAUACUUGCAUAGAGAAGGGAACUGGCUAUUGGUUCGUAGGAUGGAAAAUUUCUCCGCCUUCAUCUAUGACUUGCGUGAGGAGAAAUCCUGCCAAUUCCUCUACAACUGCCUUGCAACGUUGGAUUGGUCUGAGCAUCGCCCGCUUUCGUUGCAGCUUUAAAAGAAGUAGAUGAAAACAAUUAAGUUAUGAACAAAACUAAACAUAAUUGAUGGCAACAUAAAUAAAGUUGUGAAGAUCCGGUUACGUACCUCUAGAUUUCUGGAAGUACGGGAUUUCUCAUUGAUAAUCCUGUGAAUGUACUCGCAAACGUAGUAUCCACAAUAAUCAGUNNNNNNNNNNNNNNNNNNNNNNNNNNNNNNNNNNNNNNNNNNNNNNNNNNNNNNNNNNNNNNNNNNNNNNNNNNNNNNNNNNNNNNNNNNNNNNNNNNNNUUCUUCUCCUCCUCCUCCUCCUCCUCCUCCUCCUUCUUCUUGAUUUCUUCUUCUUCUCCUCUUCCUCCUCUUUCUUCUUCUUCUCCUCCUCUUUCUUCUCCUUCUUCUACCAUAAUAAGCUCAAAAUGAAAAGAAAGAAGAAGAAGAGAUGAAGAAGAAGAGAGGAAGGAGAAGGAGGAGGAGGAGGAGAAGGCCAAGGACCUUCUAUCCUUCUCCUCCUCCUCCUCCUCUUUCUUCUCCUCUUUCAUAUUAUCCUUGCUUUAAUUAACCCAACAAUGACAUAGUUAGCCCAUUGAGCUCCAAAAUACCGUAAUAAGCUCAAAAUGGCAUAAGAACCUUGGUUAGCUCAUGAAUAUUAUAUACUUAGCUUCUUUUCCUCUAAAAGGACAUAAUUGGAAUAUUUAGCUCAAAAAAAAGGAGAAGGAAGAAGAAGAGGAAGAAGAGAAGAAGAAUAGAAGGAGAAGGAGAAGAAGAAGGAGGAGGAGGAGAAGAAGAAGAAGGAGGGGGAGAAGAAGAGAAGAAGGAGAAGGUAGGAGGAGAAGAAGAAGGAGAAGGAGAAGGAGCCCUCCUUCUUCUCCUUCUUCUUCUCUCCUUCUUCUCCUCCCUCUUCUCCUUCUUCUUCUCUUAUUUUUUCUUCUUCUCCUCCUCCUUCUCCUUCUCCUUCCCCUUCCCCUCCUCCUCCUCCUCCUCCUCCUUCUUGUUUUUCUUCUCCUUGUUCUAUUAUUGCUUCUUCUCUUUCUUCUUCAAUUUAGCUUAUUUGUCAUAUAUGUUGUUGUUCUUCUUGUACUUACUUUCUUAUUCCCAUUUUGCAGAUUGGAUGUACUACAUGCAUGGAAGCUGGCGUUGGAGUGCUUUAGUUUCCUUUUUUAUUUGAGUUGAUGAACAAUGUGUUGGUUCUUUGUAUGUGUUGAUGAACAAUGUGUUGAUGAACAAUAUAUGUGGAACUAUAUGUAUAUAUAUAUGGAUGAAACUUUGUAUAUGUUGGUUUCUUUUGAUAUAUGGAUGUCCAUUGAUGAACAAAUGACAUUGGUUAACUUUAUAUGUAUAUCAUAUAUGUGUUGUGAACUAUAUAUCAUAUAUGUGCUAUGAAUUAUAUAUAUUAUUGCUGUGAAAUAACAUAAAAUAAAAAAAACAGUGACAAUAUGGGCUCUUUGCCGUCUGCNNNNNNNNNNNNNNNNNNNNNNNNNNNNNNNNNNNNNNNNNNNNNNNNNNNNNNNNNNNNNNNNNNNNNNNNNNNNNNNNNNNNNNNNNNNNNNNNNNNNGGCGUGCGUGGGAGAGAGAGAGAGCGCGUGGGAGAGAGAGAGUGCGUGGGAGAGAGAGAGAGAGUGCGUGGGAGAGAGGAGAGAGGUAGGCGCCGUUAACGCUUCCGAGUCGUGGGGCUACGCACUUCCGUGCCAGUUCCUGCGGCGUUCUUCUUCUCCAGCCAUCGACCCCGGUGUCGAUCUUCCCCCCGUCACGCGCCGCAACAAGCGAUCCGGUCGUUCGCAGCUCCAGUGUUGGGUGCGACACGCCCUAGCGCGACAAAACAUGUCCUCUUAAGUGGCAGUGCUUGAAUCGGUUGUGGUCCCGCGGUCAUCCCAGUGCUUGGAGUCAGUUCUGACUGAACUACCUUCCGAGUAUCAGGGUCACGGGCCUGCAGCCGAAGUACUCAUGGCGGAUUCCCAUGAAAGUCCCUCCGGACUGGUCGGAACAAGGGUGAGAUCGGGGAAUCAUCCGGCGCUCGUCGUCAGCACCCUCGUUCUUCCGGUCGAUGCGCUCGCCAGAGCAACGUCGAGGUGCUCCGCACACCCAUCCUCAACUUAGCUGCAGCCGCCAGGAUCGCUGACUCUCUCCAGCCGACUGAUUCGGAGGCUGGUAGAGGAAUCGAGUAGAUCCGUGCCUUGUUACAUACGGCGCAGCAGCAAAACUCGGUGGUCUCCCAAUCGCACAACAAGAUACACAACAGUUCCGUUCAAGCGAACACGGGUGAGUUUUCAGUCCCGGCUCUCACCAGCAUCGCAGAGGGGGCAGCCUCUAGAACGAUCGUUCCAGGGACCAGAGUCGGAAUCCGCUUUCCAUUCGGUCUCAUCCCGAAGAUCGUCGCCGUUCGCGUACUCCUCCACGGAGUGGGCCUUACCGACCCCGGCAUUACGAUGGUCAUCGUUCGGGCGGUGACGCGCAUGAUCAAAGGCCUGAUGCAAGAGGGUAUAUCACUCAGAAGAAGGUUGAUAGAAGCUGAGCCACCGCGAUGGUCAUGAUAGAGAUCAUCCGAGUGGAAGCAGGACCGUUGUUUCUGGUCCCGAGUGUUUCAGUCGGGCAAUUCGCUCGGCUGACAUCCCUCCCAACUUCCGAUUGGCGACGGGAAUCAGCAAAUUCACAGGAGAGUCCAAACCAGAAACUUGGUUAGACGACUACAGAGUGGCGCUCUAGAUCGGUGGUGGAGAUGACCAUGUCGCCAUGAAACAUCUCCCGCUGAUGCUCGACGGUUCGGCUCGAGCUUGGCUAAACCAGUUAGCUCCAUCAAGCAUUUACAGUUGGGCAUAUCUGUCCCGAGUCUUCAUCAGGACCUUCGAGGGUACGUGCAAACGCCCUGCUGGUCUCACAGAGCUUCAGCACUGUGUCCAGAAGCAAAACGAUCCCUUGCGCGAUUUCAUCCAGCGCUGGACAACCCUGUACCACACGGUGGAGAAUGUUACUGAACACCAAGCAGUCUGCGCCUUCAAGGCAGGCGUUCGGUACAGAGAUCUAUACCUGAAGUUUGGUCGGACAUGCGACAUCUCCAUGAGCAAGAUGAUGGAGAUAGCCGCGCGCUAUGCGAGUGGCGAAGAGGAGGACCGCAUACAUAGCGGCAAGCAUAAGUCAGUCGCGGACGGAGAUGGGAGCAGCAGUCGGAAGUAGAAACAGAAAGCCCAAUCCACUCCGCAAGCAGAGGUGGCAGUCGUUACAAACGCUAAGUCCAAAGGCAAGGGGAAACCACAGUACACCCCCAAGAAGAAACAGUCAGGAAAUUCCAUCCUAGAUCAACCGAGGCCGAUCCACACGAAGACGGAUGAAGAAGGCAAUGUCAUAUUGCCGAAACAUACCACUCGGCAGUGUCGCCUCCUGAUCCAAGGAUUCGGUGAAGGACAGCCGAGUGAGAAAGACUCUGAGCAAGAUGAUGAGGACAAGGGGGAUCCGUUCCCUCAAGUCCAUGCAACGUUAAUGAUUUUUGCUGAUGUAGAAAGCAAAAGUCGACUGAAGCUGGUCAACAGGGAGGUAAACAUGGCAACCACAUCCACUCCCACGUUCCUCAAGUGGUCACAGACUGCAAUCACUUUUGAUCAGUCAGACCACCCAGCACACGUAUCCACCCCAGGGAGGCAAGCUCUGGUCGUCGACCCGGUGGUGGAAGGAGUUAGGCUGCGCAAAGUCCUCAUGGACGGCGGCAGCGGCUUGAAUAUCAUGUACGCCAAUACUCUCAAGGGAAUGGGCAUUCUGAUGUCCAGACUUAGCGAGAGCAGUAUGCAAUUCCAUGGAGUCGUCCCAGGAAGAAAGGCCAAGUCACUCGACCAGAUUGCGUUGGAUGUCGUUUUCGGCUCUUACCAGAACUUCCGCAAAGAGAAAUUAACAUUCGAGGUGGUAGACUUCCAGAGUGCAUACCAUGCCAUUCUGGGCCGUCCGACAUACGUACGUUUCAUGGCCCGUCCAUGUUACGUAUAUUUGAAGCUGAAGAUGCCUGGUCCCAAAGGCGUGAUUACUAUCACAGGCAAUCGGCAGCGGGCCGAGGAGUGCCUGCAGCAGGGGUCGAGAAUGGCAGACCAUCAGAUAGCUGUACUCGAGUUGGAUGAGUACAAGAAGAUUGCCGACCCCGCCGACCUGAUGCGUUCAAAGAAGCCAGCUUCCGAGUCCGCAUUCCAGUCGGCGAGAGACACGAAGAAAGUAAGCAUCCACCCGGCGGAUGCCACCGCCGCCCCAACAAACAUCUCCACCACCCUUGAUCCAAAAUAGGAAGACGAGCUCAUCCAAUUCCUCCGUGAGAACUGGGAAAUUUUUGCAUGGAAACCUGCUGACAUGCCAGGUGUACCGAGGGAGUUGGCUGAGCACCAAUUGCAUGUGGAUCCUACCGCUCGGCCCGUCUGAGAACACCUGCGUCGGUCCGCCGCGCACAAGAGAAAAGCAAUCGGAGAGGAGGUAGCUAAACUUCUGGCAGCCAACUUCAUUCGCGAGGUACACCACUCCGAGUGCCUCGCUAAUGUUGUCAUGGUACCCAAGAAGGACAAGUCUCUCCCUAUGUGCAUCGCUUUCAAGCACCUUAAUAAGGUCUGUCCGAAAGACCAAUUGAUCAAAUUGUUGAUUCGACUUCGGGUUCCAAGCGUUUAUCCUUCCUUGAUGCCUAUUCGGGCUAUCAUCAGAUCCGUCUGUAUGGUCCAGAUGAAUUAAAAACAUCUUUCAUCACCCCAUUCGGGUGCUUCUGUUACAUCACUAUGCCAUUCGGUUUGAAAAAUGCAGGAGCAACUUUUAUGCGAAUGAUCCAAAAAUGCCUCCUAGACCAGAUUAGUCGAAAUGUGGAGGCAUAUAUGGACGAUAUCGUAGUCAAGUCACGCAAAGGUUCCGACCUGCUGACUGACUUGGCAGAAACAUUCGCCAACCUACAUAGGUACGAUAUCAAGCUCAACCUAGGCAAGUGUUCAUUCGGCGUUCCCAGCGGGAAGUCACUCGGUUUCUUUGUUUCUGAACUUGGGAUCGAUGUCAACCCCGAAAAGAUCGGGACCAUUGUUUGAAUGGAGCGGUCGGUAAGAGUACAUGAUGUACAAAAGCUCACAGGUUGCCUAGCGGCUUUGAGCAGGUUUAUCGCUCGACUCGGCGAGAAGGCGUUACCUCUGUACCGACUCAUGAAGAAGUCGGAUACCUUCGAGUGGACAGACGAAGCCCAAACCGCAUUCGACGACCUCAAAGCCCUGCUUUCCACCCAGCCGGUUCUUACAACCCGCUCAGUAAAGAACCCCUUCUUCUAUACAUCGCGGCUACAAAUCAAUUCGUCAGCACCGUUCUGACAGUCGAACGCGAAGAAGAAGGCAAAGCGUACAGGGUUCAGCGGCCAGUAUAUUAUGUUUCCGAAGUCCUGACUCCUUCCAAGCAGAGGUAUCCCCAUUAUCAGAAGCUUAUUUAUGGGAUCUACAUGACUGCAAAGAAGGUGGCUCAUUAUUUCCAAGACCACUCGGCAUCCGUCAUAUCUGAUGCUCCGUUGUCGGAAAUUCUCCACAAUCGGGAUGCAUCAGGCCGAGUGGCAAAGUGGGCAAUGGAGAUGCUAUACUGCGACAUCAAGUUCGAAGCCAAGAAAGCUAUAAAGUCUCAAGCUCUUGCUGACUUCAUAGCAGAAUGGGUAGAACAACAGCAACCGACUCACAUCUACUCGACUCAUUGGACCAUGUUCUCCAAUGGGUCCAAGAUGUUGAAUGGCUCCGGCGCCGGCGUAGUGCUCAUGUCCCCGAAAGGUGAUAAACUCAAUUAUGUGUUGCAGAUCCAUUUUGAUUCUUCCAACAACGAAGUAGAGUACGAAGCUCUCCUUUACGGGUUGCAUGGCCAUCACACUCGGCGUCCGUCGCCUGAUGGUCUAUGGCGACUCAGAUCUAGUGGUUAAUCAAGUAAUGAAGGAGUGGGAUGUAAGGAACCCCACCAUGACUGCAUAUUGCAAUGCAAUAAGAAAGCUCGAAAAGAAGUUCGAAGGUCUGGAACUUCACCAUGUUCCCCGACUGAAAAACCAAGCAGCAGAUGAAUUGGCAAAACUUGGAUCCACACGGAGACCUGUCCCGAGUGAUGUCAGCCUCGAGCACCUACACCUCGCCUCGGUAAAAGAAGAUUAUUUUACACAGGAACCGGUGCAACCGAAGAGCUCAACAGAUUAGACUGAAGCCGAGGUUCCAGCUGUGGUUGACCUGAUCAUGGAGAUUCUGGAUAUCAUUCCCGAAUGGACUGUGCCAUUCAUUGUGUACAUCCUGAGGCAAGAGUUACCGGAAGACGAGGUCCAAGCGAGGCAGAUCGUUCACAGGUCGAAGUCCUUAACCAUCGUUGAUGACCAGUUAUACAGAGAAAGUGUUUCAGGCGUCCUUCAGCGGUGUAUCUCUCCUGAGGAGGGUCGGUUAAUUUUGGAAGAAAUUCACUCGGGAACCUGCGGCCAUCAUGCCUCCUGAAGGGUAAUCGUCGCCAAAGCAUUCAAAGCUGGUUUCUUCUGGUUGCAGGCGAAUGAAAUGGCAAAAGAUAUAGUCGACCAUUGCGAAGGUUGUCAGUUCUAUUCAAACAAGUCCCACAAGCCAAUGUCCGCGCUGAAGACAAUUCUCCUUUCUUGGCCAUUCGCCGUGUGGGGAUUAGAUACAGUCGGACCAUUCAGAACAGGCCAAGGAGGAUUCACCCAUCUGCUGGUAGCAGUCGACAAGUUUACCAAGUGGAUUGAAGCCAAGCCAGUCAAGAAGCUUGAUGCCCUUACGGCCAUCAAAUUUAUCACAGACAUCAUCGCCAAAUAGAGGGUUCCACACAACAUAAUCACCGACAAUGGCAUAAACUUUAACUCGGACGAGUUCAAAGGUUUUUGCGCAGGCCAAGGUAUGCGAGUGGAUUUUGCAUCCAUUGCGCACCCCCAAACAAAUGGACCAGCGGAGCGGGCGAAUGGACUCAUUCUUCAAGGGUUGAAGCCUCAACUCCUGCGGGAAGUUGGACAUGCCGCCGGCGCAUGGGUCACCGAGCUGCCUUUGGUGCUGUGGGGCCUCCGAACAACUCCGAAUAGAUCGAUAGGACGAUCCCCGUUUUUCCUCGUUUAUGGAGCAGAGGCAGUCCUUCCGAGUGACUUGCAUAACAACUCUCCACGAGUCGAACUCUUCUCCGAAGCCGAAGCAGAGCAAGCCAGGCAAGACGGACUAGACCUUUUAGAAGAGGAGCACGAGAUGGCAUUGAUCCGUUCAACAAUUUAUCAGCAAGAUCUGCGGCGAUUUCAUGCAUGGCACGCCAGGAGCCGCACGUUCCAAGCAGGCCACCUGGUGCUCCGAGUGGAUCAACAGAGACCACACAAGUUGGCUCCCGCCUGGGAAGGAUUGUUCAUCAUUUCUAAGGUGCUGAACAACAGAGCGUAUCGACUCUACAACCUCGACAGGGAGACGGACGAGCCGCGAGCAUGGAAUGGAGAUCUACUGAAGCGCUUCUACACAUAACCACCGACAGAGACAAUGUAAAGAACAAAUGUCAUCGAAGUAAUACAAAGCGGUUUAAUUUCUUGCCGAUUCAAAAUUCUUGCGCGUUUGCAGACUCCGGUCNNNNNNNNNNNNNNNNNNNNNNNNNNNNNNNNNNNNNNNNNNNNNNNNNNNNNNNNNNNNNNNNNNNNNNNNNNNNNNNNNNNNNNNNNNNNNNNNNNNNAACAUAAAAUAAAAAAAACAGUGACAAUAUGGGCUCUUUGCCGUCUGCCUGCUGGGGGGGCAGACGGCAAAGAAGAGGGCACAGAGGAGGGGCAGGAGUGGAGAGAGGGGGAGGGGAGGACACGGCAGACGGCAAAGAUUGACCAGCAGGCAGACGGCAAAGAGCCUCCGUUAACCCCUAACGGAGGCAACGCCUCUCGGCUGCCGUCUCAAGCUCUUUGCCGACUGCUCCUCAAGGAAGCUGACGGCAAAGAGCUUUGCCGUCCGCUUUGGGGGGGGGGGNNNNNNNNNNNNNNNNNNNNNNNNNNNNNNNNNNNNNNNNNNNNNNNNNNNNNNNNNNNNNNNNNNNNNNNNNNNNNNNNNNNNNNNNNNNNNNNNNNNNNNNNNNNNNNNNNNNNNNNNUAGGCUGACGCAGAAAAUUUGCCAGCCGUGACAAUCUUUGCCGUCUGUGGUAUGUUCUUUGCCGUCCGGGUAUUUGUCUUUGCCGUCCGUGAUGGCAGAUGCCAAAGAAGGUGAUUCCUGUAGUGGAUGUACAGAGUGGAUUCCAGUCGGUACGUUAGAUAUGCUCCGAGUGGAUCGUCGCCGACUGGAUGAUGGGGGCGUCCUUAGUUCAGUUGGAACUGUCUAAGGGCCUUCUCCCCUAUGAAGGGUAGUCCUUGGGUAGGACCUAUAGGGCAGACCUAUGACNNNNNNNNNNCUCGCUAUGCUCCAUCAUCCUCACACAACUAAUGUAAAUCAUGCACAACCCCGGUAUUGGCCAAGUAAUUGUUUUCGCACUCUUACUUUCUCAAACUUUUUAUAACAGUCACGCAACACAUGAGCGUGAGCCAUGGAUAUAGCACUAUAGGUGGAAUAGAGUGUGGUGGUGGUUGUGAGACAAAAAGGGAGGAGAUAGUCACAUUGACUCGGCGUAUCAAAGGGUUAUGGCGAUGCCCAUUAAUAGAUAUCAAUGUGAAUGAGUAGGGAUUGCCAUACAAGAGAUGCACUAGAGCUAUAAGUAUGUGAAAGCUCAAAAGGAGAACUAGUGGGUGUGCAUCCAACUUGCUUGCUCACGAAGACAUAGGGCAAUUUUGAGGAAGCCCAUCAUUGGAAUAUACAAACCAAGUUAUAUAAUGAAAAUUCCCACUAGCAUAUGGUAGUGACAAAGCAAGAAGCUCUCAAUCAUGAAGAAUAUGGUGCUAUUAUGAAGCACAAGUGUGGAAAAGGAUAGUAGCAUUAUCCCUUCUCUCUUUUUCUCUCUUUUCUCUUUUUUUCAUUUGGGCUCUUAGGCCUUUUUUUCUUUUCUCCUUUUUUUGUUUUUGGGCUCUUUGGACUCUUUUUUUAUUUCCUCACACGGGACAAUUCUCUAAUAAUGAUGAUCAUCACACUUUAAUUUACUCAUAGCUCAAUGAUGACGACCCUAUAGGAAAUGCGUCCGGCAGUGUACCGGGAUGUGCAACGAUCUAGAUGGCGUAUGCCGUUGAAACAUCUCGCUAGCUAUCUUACGAUCAUGCAAUGGAAAUAUGAGAGUGACGGCAGAAGUCAUGAGACGGAACGGUGGGAGUUGCAUGGCAAUAUAUCUCGGAAUGGCUAUGAAAAUGCCAUAGUGGGUAGGUAUGGUGGCUGUUUUGAGGAAGGCAUAUGGUGGGUUUGUGCACCGGCGAGAAUUGCGCGGCACUAAAGAGACUAGUAAUGGUGGAAGGUGAAAGUUCAUCUAUACCAUGGACUCACAUUAGUCAUGAAUAACUCACAUACUUGUUGCGAAAGUUUUUAUAAGUAACCGAAACAAAGUGCUAAACGCAUACUCUGAGGGGAAGGGUUGGUAGGUGUUAACCAUCGCGCGAUCCCGACCUCAACACAAAGGAUGACAAUCAAUAGAUCAAUUAUGCUCCGAUUUCCUAACAUAGCGGUCACCAUACGUGCAUGCUACAGGAAUCACUAACUUCAACACAAGUAUUUCUAGAUUCACAACACCCUACUAACAUAGCUCUUAAUAUUACCAAAUCCACGUCUCAAAACUAAUUGGAGGAAUCAAAACUUCUCUUUCUACUCAAUGCACAUGAAAAUGGAGGUUUUUGCAUCCUCUUUGGGUACUUAUCACAUUUGGGACUACUUUCAUAGCAUAAGUCAACUACCAAAUCACGCACCGCCGUGCUCUAAAAGAUAUAAGUGAAGCACUAGAGCAAAAGUAUCUAGCUCAAAAGAUAUAAGUGAAGCACUAUGAGCAUUCUNNNNNNNNNNAAAAAUCACGAUGAGUGCAUGUCUCUCUCUCUAUCAAAAAGGUGUGGAGCAAGGAUGAUUGUGACACAACAAAACGAAAAGACUCCUAAGAUACAAGACGAUCCAAGCAAAACACAUAUCACGUGGUGAAUAAAAAUAUAGCUCCAAGUAAUGUUACCGAUGGAUUGAAGACGAAAGAUGGGAUGCCUUCCCGGGGCAUCCCCAAGCUUAGGCUUUUUGGUGUCCUUGAAUUUGGCUUGGGAUGCCUUGGGCAUCCCCAAGCUUGAGCUAUUUCCACUCCUUAUCUCUUUGUCCAUGAGAACAUCACCCAAAACUUGAAAACUUCACAAAACAAAACUUAAACAGAAGCUCGUGAUAACAUUAGCACAAGAAAACAAAUUACCACUUCUUUUGGUACUGUAGCAAACUUGAAUUCUAUCUAUAUUGGUGUUGGGCUACUCCAUUCUCACUUUUCCAUGGCUAGUACCCCCCGAUACUAACCAUAGUUUCAUCAAAACAGGCAACCAACUCAACAAAAACAGAAUCUGUCAAAAACAGACCAGUCUGUAGUAAUCUGUAUACUUCCUAUACUUGUGGUAACUCAAAAAAUUUCUGAAAAAUUGUGAAUGCCUGGGAAAAAGGUAUAUCAACCAGCGGAAAAAAGAAUCAAGUCAAAAUCUCUUUCUGAAUAAAAAUGAAAAAUCAUCUCGUGAGCGAAAAGUUUCUGUCUUUUUCCAGCAGGAUCAAACAACCAUCACCAAGACUAGUCAUAAAGGUUUUGCUUGGCUCAAACACAAAAAGAAACACAAAAGACACAAUCAUAACAGAAUUCUGAUAGUGUGGACGCAACAAAUUAGAAAGAAAAAGAAAUAAAUUUAUUGGGUUGCCUCCCAACAAGCGCUAUUGUUUAACGCCCUUAGCUAGGCAUAACGAAUUCAAUGAUGCUCACGCAAAAGACGAGAGUUGAAGCACAACGAGAGCAUCAUCAAGCAUGUGAAAAUCACAUCGAAGUCUAACAUACUUCCUAUGCAUAGGCAUUUUAUAGGAAAAAAAAUUGGUCAAGCAACCAAUAGUUACCAAAUGCAAGGAAGAAGAAAGAGACAAUAGCAAUCUCAACAUAACGAGAGGUAAUUUGGUAACAUGAAAGUUUCUGCCACAAUAUUUUCCUUUCUCAUAGCAAUUACAUGUGGGAUCGUAUUCAAAUUCAACAAUAUAGCUAUCCCAUAUGAUAUUCUUUUCAUGAUCCACAUGCAUGCAAAGUUAACGCUCUUCAAAAAUAGUGGGAUUAUCAUCAACUAAAGCCAUGACUUCUCCAAACCCACUUUUAAUCUUAUUGCAAAAUCAUAUUCAUCAUGAGGCUUAAACAAAUUUUUAAGAUCAUAAGAAAAAUCAUCGCCCCACUCUUGUUCAUUGCAACAAGUAGUGGACAUAACAAAACUAGCAUCCCCAAGCUUAUGGUUUUGCAUGUUCUUAGCAUCCCCAAAUUUACAGUGAAACCAUUGCAAUCAUGCUUUUCAUCCAAGGAGCCCUCAUGAAUCACUUCAUAAAUUUCUUCCUCACAAUUUUCAGAUUCACGCAUCUCAAGCAAAACUCCAUAAAGAUAGUCAAGUGCACUCAACUCACUAGCAAUUGGAUCAACAUAAUUGGAUCUCUUAAAGACAUUAGCAAGUGGAUGAGGAUCCAUAUCACUAGAUUUUCAGCAAGCGAAGAUGCAAGCAUAUUUAAGGCACAUGGCACAUAAGCGAACAGAAAGCAAGCGAGAGAAAAGGGCGACCGAAAAAGGCAAACGAAAAAAAGGCAAACGAAAAAGGCAAAUAGGUGAAGUGGGGAGAGGAAAACGAGAGGCAACUGGCAAACAAAGUAAAUGCAAGAGGUGAGUUUGCGACACCUACUUGGAUGAGUUCUUGACUUGAUCUUCCUCCCCAGCGACGGCGCCAGAAAUCCUUCUGCUACGGUCCUAGACAACAGCGCCAGAAGUUGACACGUUGAUGGAGAUUGGGCUUGCGUUGGUUUGUCUUCUGAUCAUCUCUCCGUGUCGGCCCUUCCUCCGAUGCUUGCCCCCACGCACCGUAGCUCCGCCGCCAGCCCUGCCUCCGCCUCCUCCUUCGUUACUCGCGCCCGCCCACCGCAGCUUCGCCGUCGGCCCCGCCUCCGCCUCCGCCUCCGCUGGUCGCCCCCGCCCACUUCAGCACCGCCGCCGCCCCUACGACGCUCAUUUUAGGAAUUUUGUAUAGGAAUUUUAGAUAUUUUAGAAUGUAGAUUAACUCAUUUUGAUCGGUAUGUAGUUUAUAGUGUAAUCUCUAGAAGGUCUUAUAUUUAGGAAAGGAGGGAGUAAUGUUGGUGUGACUUACUAGGCUACUUCUUAUUAGGCCCCUCCCGUAUUUGUGCUAAUGUUUAUAUGAAAAUACUAGGUUACUUCUUAUUAGGCAUUAAGUUCUGGACGUCGACGACUGACUACUAUAUAUGAUUCAGUUUUUCCAUUAAAUACUAAAAUGUUAAUCUUAGAAUCUAUAAGCAUCAAGAAAAAAAAUUGCCGUCGAUUUUUAAUCUUAGAAUGAUGAACAUAGGAAAUGACGUGGUCCGACGACGAUAGGAUCCCUAAGUGCCAGUUGUGCCGGGAUGACACGAGUAUAUGCGACCGUUAUCCUCACCUAGACAACGGUACGUCCUUCACCAUCAAGCUACAUGAUGACUUUGAGAUUAUUAUGGUAUGUAAAGACGACAUGUAAUUUUUGUUAAUAAAGUAUGACGUAUGAUUUUUUUUGCUUUAAUUAACUUUUAAUUUUCUUUUGUACAAUUCGACUACACUAGUAGAAAAUAGGGCUUUGGUCGAGGCGAUCAAAGAGCUUUAAUCCCGGUUCUGUUACGAACAGGGACCAAUGUGUUCAUCAGUCCCGGUUCGUGAGGCUAAGGCACCGGCCGGGCCAGGGUCCCAGUUCGUCUGACCACUUUGGUCCCAGUUCCAGACAAGAACCGGGACCAAUGGUCCUCGCUCUUGGAGAAGAACCUUUAGUCCCGGUUGGUGGAUGGAACUGGGACUAAAGGUCAGUUUUCUGUCCCGGUUUUGACCACCAACCGGGACCAAAGAGAUUCCUAUAUAUACACGCACCUACCCAUCCUCUCCUCUGUUUUUUGCCGUGUGGGAGGUGUGCAUGCAGUGCUCGGUUCAUCGUUCCACGCAUGCACAUGAGGUGUUCGAUGAAAUGCCCGAGCCACACUUAAGCUUUCUCCUCUUGAAGCUCGACCUCCAAGCUCCAUUUUCCUCAAGAUUUGUUUUGGUUUGGCGGUGCACCAACUACACAUGUGUUCUAAAAGGUUAGCUACUUCAUCCUUUCAUCUCCCACUCCUAGUUUAGCUCAUUUCAAAUGCUCUAGAAGUAGAGAGGUUUCUGGGUUUUAGUGUAGCAGUGUAUGUGGGAGUUCUUUUUAUGUAGAUGCACAAUUUUGCUCCAAUUAACUUCUUAGAGUUUGCACAUGUGUAGCGUGUCGUCCCAUCCCCGUCCUCACCGUCGUUGAUCGUCCACGCCGAUCUCGUCACGGCACCACCAUGGUGAGCCUCUUGUUCUUAUUUUCUUUCUAAAAGAAAAAAAUAAUUCUUACUUGUAUGAUUUAGAUAGAUACUUGUAUAAAUUUCUUACUUUUAUUAUUAUUUGUUGAAGGUGAGCUCUACUCAUUGGCCAGGGGAGCAUCUUCGACUGUAUUGACUUACAAAGGGUACGAGAUAAAUGAGAAUACAUUUUAUACGAUUGCCCAAGAUCAAAAGAGCACCAACCAAAAUAGUGUUGUCCGCUUUGAUGCAGCAACCAAGGGGGGAAAUGACACGUAUUAUGGUUACAUAGUGGACAUAUGGGAACUUAGACUAUGGACAUGAUAUUGAGGUCCCUUUAUUUCGAUGCAAAUGGGUCAAUCUAUUAGGAGGUGGGGUACAGGUAGACCCACAGUAUGGAAUGACAAAAGUGGAUCUGAACAAUCUUGGGUACACAAACAAACCAUUCGUCCUAGCCAAUGAUGUGACGUAUGUUUUCUAUGUGUAGGACAUGUCUACCAAACUGAGAAAAAGAAAAGAUAAAGAAGCGAAUACAUCAUACGAUGAGCCAAAGCGCCACAUAGUUCUUUCAGAGAAAAGAGACAUCGUGGGAGUGGAGGGCAAGAUAGACCCUUUCAGUGUGUUAUGUGGGUGAAAUGAUGAUACAUUUUUGUCGUAACCCUUUCAAUUUUUUAGCACAUGCUAUGUGGGUGAAAUGAUAAUACCAUGACAACUCUCAACCUUUUCAGUGUGUUCAUUUGUAGUGCUUUUCAGUUUCAGGGUCAUUUAGCUAAAAACAAUCAGUAAAUGCAUGAAAAAUACCAAAUGAAGUGAGAAACGGUUGAAAAUUGAUGGUGUGGCUUUUGAAUGGUUCAUGUUGAAUGCACAAAAAGUCUGGAGUUCAAAUAAGUUCAAAAAAAUGAAAUACCUUUGUAACAGAUGAGUUUUCGUCUGAAACCGUGAUACUUCGAAAGAGAUUGUCGAUUUUGCACACGAAGUGCAUCCAGUUUCUGUCGUAACCCUCUCAACUUUUUAGCAUAUGCUAUGUGGGUGAAAUGAUGAUACCAUGCCAACUUUCAACCUUUUCAAGUUUAUUUGUAGUGUUUUUCAAUAUCAAGGUCAUUUAGCUCAAAGAAUAACUAACAGAAAAAAGAAUGAACUAACAAGAAUCAAAAUAAUAUUAACUAAAAUCAUCAAAGUAUUGAUUUGUUAAAAAUAAUGAACUAAAAAGAAUUAAAAGAUAUUAACUAAAAUUAUCAAAGUAUUUAGUUGUUAAAAAGAAUGAACUGCAAAGAAUCAACUAAAAGAAUGAACUAAAAAGAAUCAAGUAAAACAUUAACCGAAAGGAAUGAACUAAAAAGAAUAAAAAAAAUGAACUAAAAAGAACUUUCAUAAAUUUUCUUAGUUAAAAUCUUUAAUAGCAAACUAAAAUAACAGAAAAAAUCUUUAAUAGCAAAGAAUUCAAAUUUGAAAACUACUGGCACUAAUAGAAAUUUUAUAACAGAAAGUUUAUAAUUUUUGUUACCUAAAGCAAAAAGAAUCAUUCAAAANNNNNNNNNNNNNNNNNNNNNNNNNNNNNNNNNNNNNNNNNNNNNNNNNNNNNNNNNNNNNNNNNNNNNNNNNNNNNNNNNNNNNNNNNNNNNNNNNNNNCUAAUGGCGCACCAGCACGUGGUGCGCCAUUAGUAACCUGGUUAGUAAUGGCGCAUCUGUUAGUAGUGCGCCACUACUAUAAAAAAAAUUGGUUUUUUUUUGCAAACUACUAAUGGCGCACCAAAGCUAGUGCGCCAUUAGUAACCAGUGUUACUAAUGGCGCAUCUGUUGGUGGUGCGCCACUACUAAGUUCUUUUUACAGAACUACUAAUGGCGCACAAGAGGAGGUGCGCCAUUAGUAACCUGGUUAGUAAUGGCGCAUCUGUUAGUAGUGCGCCACUACUAUAAAAAAAAUUGGUUUUUUUUUGCAAACUACUAAUGGCGCACCAAAGCUAGUGCGCCAUUAGUAACCAGUGUUACUAAUGGCGCAUCUGUUGGUGGUGCGCCACUACUAAGUUCUUUUUACAGAACUACUAAUGGCGCACAAGAGGAGGUGCGCCAUUAGUAGUUCUGUAAAAAAAAUAGUAAUGGCGCACCACCUACGAAUGCGCCAUUAGUGACCCUGGUUACUAAUGGCGCACCUCCUCUUGUGCGCCAUUAGUAGUUCUGUAAAAAGAACUUAGUAGUGGCGCACCACCAACAGAUGCGCCAUUAGUAACACUGGUUACUAAUGGCGCACUAGCUUUGGUGCGCCAUUAGUAGUUUGCAAAAAAAAACCAAUUUUUUUUAUAGUAGUGGCGCACUACUAACAGAUGCGCCAUUACUAACCAGGUUACUAAUGGCGCACCACGUGCUGGUGCGCCAUUAGUAGUUUUGCAAAAAAAAAUAUAUAUAUAUAGUAGUGGCGCACCGAGACUGUGGUGCGCCAUUAGUAUCCACCACACUAAUGGCACACCUCACAUGGUGCACCAUUACUAUAUAGUAGUGGCGCACUGCUUGUGUGGUGCGCCAUUAGUAUCUAUAUCAUCUAUAUCCCUUUUCCUAGUAGUGGAGGGGCCAAGUCUGCGCUCUAUCUACCCCUCCUCCUAUAUAUAGAGAGGGAGAUAGAGGGCAGUACCACCCCAAGGCAUUUCUCCUCCGAAAAGCAUCUGCGGCAACGCUUGGCGAAGCCCUCUUGAGAUCGCACCACCACUGCCGCCACCAUGCCGUUGUGCUACCCGAGAACUCAUCUACAAGUUCAGCCAUGCUUGCUGAAUCGAGAUCAUGAAGACGUCAUCGUGUUGUACGUGUGCUGAACGCAGAGGUGCCGUCUGUUCGGCACUUGAUCGGAACGAUCGUGACUUGAUCGCGAAGACGUUCGACUACAUCAAGCACNNNNNNNNNNNNNNNNNNNNNNNNNNNNNNNNNNNNNNNNNNNNNNNNNNNNNNNNNNNNNNNNNNNNNNNNNNNNNNNNNNNNNNNNNNNNNNNNNNNNUUUUGAAUGAUUCUUUUUGCUUUAGGUAACAAAAAUUAUAAACUUUCUGUUAUAAAAUUUCUAUUAGUGCCAGUAGUUUUCAAAUUUGAAUUCUUUGCUAUUAAAGAUUUUUUCGGUUAUUUUAGUUUGCUAUUAAAGAUUUUAACUAAGAAAAUUUAUGAAAGUUCUUUUUAGUUCAUUUUUUUUAUUCUUUUUAGUUCAUUCCUUUCGGUUAAUGUUUUACUUGAUUCUUUUUAGUUCAUUCUUUUAGUUGAUUCUUUGCAGUUCAUUCUUUUUAACAACUAAAUACUUUGAUAAUUUUAGUUAAUAUCUUUUAAUUCUUUUUAGUUCAUUAUUUUUAACAAAUCAAUACUUUGAUGAUUUUAGUUAAUAUUAUUUUGAUUCUUGUUAGUUCAUUCUUUUUUCUGUUAGUUAUUCUUUGAGCUAAAUGACCUUGAUAUUGAAAAACACUACAAAUAAACUUGAAAAGGUUGAAAGUUGGCAUGGUAUCAUCAUUUCACCCACAUAGCAUAUGCUAAAAAGUUGAGAGGGUUACGACAGAAACUGGAUGCACUUCGUGUGCAAAAUCGACAAUCUCUUUCGAAGUAUCACGGUUUCAGACGAAAACUCAUCUGUUACAAAGGUAUUUCAUUUUUUUGAACUUAUUUGAACUCCAGACUUUUUGUGCAUUCAACAUGAACCAUUCAAAAGCCACACCAUCAAUUUUCAACCGUUUCUCACUUCAUUUGGUAUUUUUCAUGCAUUUACUGAUUGUUUUUAGCUAAAUGACCCUGAAACUGAAAAGCACUACAAAUGAACACACUGAAAAGGUUGAGAGUUGUCAUGGUAUUAUCAUUUCACCCACAUAGCAUGUGCUAAAAAAUUGAAAGGGUUACGACAAAAAUGUAUCAUCAUUUCACCCACAUAACACACUGAAAGGGUCUAUCUUGCCCUCCACUCCCACGAUGUCUCUUUUCUCUGAAAGAACUAUGUGGCGCUUUGGCUCAUCGUAUGAUGUAUUCGCUUCUUUAUCUUUUCUUUUUCUCAGUUUGGUAGACAUGUCCUACACAUAGAAAACAUACGUCACAUCAUUGGCUAGGACGAAUGGUUUGUUUGUGUACCCAAGAUUGUUCAGAUCCACUUUUGUCAUUCCAUACUGUGGGUCUACCUGUACCCCACCUCCUAAUAGAUUGACCCAUUUGCAUCGAAAUAAAGGGACCUCAAUAUCAUGUCCAUAGUCUAAGUUCCCAUAUGUCCACUAUGUAACCAUAAUACGUGUCAUUUCCCCCCUUGGUUGCUGCAUCAAAGCGGACAACACUAUUUUGGUUGGUGCUCUUUUGAUCUUGGGCAAUCGUAUAAAAUGUAUUCUCAUUUAUCUCGUACCCUUUGUAAGUCAAUACAGUCGAAGAUGCUCCCCUGGCCAAUGAGUAGAGCUCACCUUCAACAAAUAAUAAUAAAAGUAAGAAAUUUAUACAAGUAUCUAUCUAAAUCAUACAAGUAAGAAGGGGGGGGGGGAAAGAAAAUAAGAACAAGAGGCUCACCAUGGUGGUGCCGUGACGAGAUCGGCGUGGACGAUCAACGACGGUGAGGACGGGGAUGGGACGACACGCUACACAUGUGCAAACUCUAAGAAGUUAAUUGGAGCAAAAUUGUGCAUCUACAUAAAAAGAACUCCCACAUACACUGCUACACUAAAACCCAGAAACCUCUCUACUUCUAGAGCAUUUGAAAUGAGCUAAACUAGGAGUGGGAGAUGAAAGGAUGAAGUAGCUAACCUUUUAGAACACAUGUGUAGUUGGUGCACCGCCAAACCAAAACAAAUCUUGAGGAAAAUGGAGCUUGGAGGUCGAGCUUCAAGAGGAGAAAGCUUAAGUGUGGCUCGGGCAUUUCAUCGAACACCUCAUGUGCAUGCGUGGAACGAUGAACCGAGCACUGCAUGCACACCUCCCACACGGCAAAAAACAGAGGAGAGGAUGGGUAGGUGCGUGUAUAUAUAGGAAUCUCUUUGGUCCCGGUUGGUGGUCAAAACCGGGACAGAAAACUGACCUUUAGUCCCAGUUCCAUCCACCAACCGGGACUAAAGGUUCUUCUCCAAGAGCGAGGACCAUUGGUCCCGGUUCUUGUCUGGAACUGGGACCAAAGUGGUCAGACGAACUGGGACCCUGGCCCGGCCGGUGCCUUAGCCUCACGAACCGGGACUGAUGAACACAUUGGUCCCUGUUCGUAACAGAACCGGGAUUAAAGCUCUUUGAUCGCCUCGACCAAAGCCCUAUUUUCUACUAGUGUAGUCGAAUUGUACAAAAGAAAAUUAAAAGUUAAUUAAAGCAAAAAAAAUCAUACGUCAUACUUUAUUAACAAAAAUUACAUGUCGUCUUUACAUACCAUAAUAAUCUCAAAGUCAUCAUGUAGCUUGAUGGUGAAGGACGUACCGUUGUCUAGGUGAGGAUAACGGUCGCAUAUACUCGUGUCAUCCCGGCACAACUGGCACUUAGGGAUCCUAUCGUCGUCGGACCACGUCAUUUCCUAUGUUCAUCAUUCUAAGAUUAAAAAUCGACGGCAAUUUUUUUUCUUGAUGCUUAUAGAUUCUAAGAUUAACAUUUUAGUAUUUAAUGGAAAAACUGAAUCAUAUAUAGUAGUCAGUCGUCGACGUCCAGAACUUAAUGCCUAAUAAGAAGUAACCUAGUAUUUUCAUAUAAACAUUAGCACAAAUACGGGAGGGGCCUAAUAAGAAGUAGCCUAGUAAGUCACACCAACAUUACUCCCUCCUUUCCUAAAUAUAAGACCUUCUAGAGAUUACACUAUAAACUACAUACCGAUCAAAAUGAGUUAAUCUACAUUCUAAAAUAUCUAAAAUUCCUAUACAAAAUUCCUAAAAUGAGCGUCGUAGGGGCGGCGGCGGUGCUGAAGUGGGCGGGGGCGACCAGCGGAGGCGGAGGCGGAGGCGGGGCCGACGGCGAAGCUGCGGUGGGCGGGCGCGAGUAACGAAGGAGGAGGCGGAGGCAGGGCUGGCGGCGGAGCUACGGUGCGUGGGGGCAAGCAUCGGAGGAAGGGCCGACACGGAGAGAUGAUCAGAAGACAAACCAACGCAAGCCCAAUCUCCAUCAACGUGUCAACUUCUGGCGCUGUUGUCUAGGACCGUAGCAGAAGGAUUUCUGGCGCCGUCGCUGGGGAGGAAGAUCAAGUCAAGAACUCAUCCAAGUAGGUGUCGCAAACUCACCUCUUGCAUUUACUUUGUUUGCCAGUUGCCUCUCGUUUUCCUCUCCCCACUUCACCUAUUUGCCUUUUUCGUUUGCCUUUUUUUCGUUUGCCUUUUUCGGUCGCCCUUUUCUCUCGCUUGCUUUCUGUUCGCUUAUGUGCCAUGUGCCUUAAAUAUGCUUGCAUCUUCGCUUGCUGAAAAUCUAGUGAUAUGGAUCCUCAUCCACUUGCUAAUGUCUUUAAGAGAUCCAAUUAUGUUGAUCCAAUUGCUAGUGAGUUGAGUGCACUUGACUAUCUUUAUGGAGUUUUGCUUGAGAUGCGUGAAUCUGAAAAUUGUGAGGAAGAAAUUUAUGAAGUGAUUCAUGAGGGCUCCUUGGAUGAAAAGCAUGAUUGCAAUGGUUUCACUGUAAAUUUGGGGAUGCUAAGAACAUGCAAAACCAUAAGCUUGGGGAUGCUAGUUUUGUUAUGUCCACUACUUGUUGCAAUGAACAAGAGUGGGGCGAUGAUUUUUCUUAUGAUCUUAAAAAUUUGUUUAAGCCUCAUGAUGAAUAUGAUUUUGCAAUAAGAUUAAAAGUGGGUUUGGAGAAGUCAUGGCUUUAGUUGAUGAUAAUCCCACUAUUUUUGAAGAGCGUUAACUUUGCAUGCAUGUGGAUCAUGAAAAGAAUAUCAUAUGGGAUAGCUAUAUUGUUGAAUUUGAAUACGAUCCCACAUGUAAUUGCUAUGAGAAAGGAAAAUAUUGUGGCAGAAACUUUCAUGUUACCAAAUUACCUCUCGUUAUGUUGAGAUUGCUAUUGUCUCUUUCUUCUUCCUUGCAUUUGGUAACUAUUGGUUGCUUGACCAAUUUUUUUUCCUAUAAAAUGCCUAUGCAUAGGAAGUAUGUUAGACUUCGAUGUGAUUUUCACAUGCUUGAUGAUGCUCUCGUUGUGCUUCAACUCUCGUCUUUUGCGUGAGCAUCAUUGAAUUCGUUAUGCCUAGCUAAGGGCGUUAAACAAUAGCGCUUGUUGGGAGGCAACCCAAUAAAUUUAUUUCUUUUUCUUUCUAAUUUGUUGCGUCCACACUAUCAGAAUUCUGUUAUGAUUGUGUCUUUUGUGUUUCUUUUUGUGUUUGAGCCAAGCAAAACCUUUAUGACUAGUCUUGGUGAUGGUUGUUUGAUCCUGCUGGAAAAAGACAGAAACUUUUCGCUCACGAGAUGAUUUUUCAUUUUUAUUCAGAAAGAGAUUUUGACUUGAUUCUUUUUUCCGCUGGUUGAUAUACCUUUUUCCCAGGCAUUCACAAUUUUUCAGAAAUUUUUUGAGUUACCACAAGUAUAGGAAGUAUACAGAUUACUACAGACUGGUCUGUUUUUGACAGAUUCUGUUUUUGUUGAGUUGGUUGCCUGUUUUGAUGAAACUAUGGUUAGUAUCGGGGGGUACUAGCCAUGGAAAAGUGAGAAUACAGUAGCCCAACACCAAUAUAGAUAGAAUUCAAGUUUGCUACAGUACCAAAAGAAGUGGUAAUUUGUUUUCUUGUGCUAAUGUUAUCACGAGCUUCUGUUUAAGUUUUGUUUUGUGAAGUUUUCAAGUUUUGGGUGAUGUUCUCAUGGACAAAGAGAUAAGGAGUGGAAAUAGCUCAAGCUUGGGGAUGCCCAAGGCAUCCCAAGCCAAAUUCAAGGACACCAAAAAGCCUAAGCUUGGGGAUGCCCCGGGAAGGCAUCCCAUCUUUCGUCUUCAAUCCAUCGGUAACAUUACUUGGAGCUAUAUUUUUAUUCACCACGUGAUAUGUGUUUUGCUUGGAUCGUCUUGUAUCUUAGGAGUCUUUUCGUUUUGUUGUGUCACAAUCAUCCUUGCUCCACACCUUUUUGAUAGAGAGAGAGACAUGCACUCAUCGUGAUUUUUCUAGAAUGCUCAUAGUGCUUCACUUAUAUCUUUUGAGCUAGAUACUUUUGCUCUAGUGCUUCACUUAUAUCUUUUAGAGCACGGCGGUGCGUGAUUUGGUAGUUGACUUAUGCUAUGAAAGUAGUCCCAAAUGUGAUAAGUACCCAAAGAGGAUGCAAAAACCUCCAUUUUCAUGUGCAUUGAGUAGAAAGAGAAGUUUUGAUUCCUCCAAUUAGUUUUGAGACGUGGAUUUGGUAAUAUUAAGAGCUAUGUUAGUAGGGUGUUGUGAAUCUAGAAAUACUUGUGUUGAAGUUAGUGAUUCCUGUAGCAUGCACGUAUGGUGACCGCUAUGUUAGGAAAUCGGAGCAUAAUUGAUCUAUUGAUUGUCAUCCUUUGUGUUGAGGUCGGGAUCGCGCGAUGGUUAACACCUACCAACCCUUCCCCUCAGAGUAUGCGUUUAGCACUUUGUUUCGGUUACUUAUAAAAACUUUCGCAACAAGUAUGUGAGUUAUUCAUGACUAAUGUGAGUCCAUGGUAUAGAUGAACUUUCACCUUCCACCAUUACUAGUCUCUUUAGUGCCGCGCAAUUCUCGCCGGUGCACAAACCCACCAUAUGCCUUCCUCAAAACAGCCACCAUACCUACCCACUAUGGCAUUUUCAUAGCCAUUCCGAGAUAUAUUGCCAUGCAACUCCCACCGUUCCGUCUCAUGACUUCUGCCGUCACUCUCAUAUUUCCAUUGCAUGAUCGUAAGAUAGCUAGCGAGAUGUUUCAACGGCAUACGCCAUCUAGAUCGUUGCACAUCCCGGUACACUGCCGGACGCAUUUCCUAUAGGGUCGUCAUCAUUGAGCUAUGAGUAAAUUAAAGUGUGAUGAUCAUCAUUAUUAGAGAAUUGUCCCGUGUGAGGAAAUAAAAAAAGAGUCCAAAGAGCCCAAAAACAAAAAAAGGAGAAAAGAAAAAAAGGCCUAAGAGCCCAAAUGAAAAAAAGAGAAACCCCCCCCCCCCCCAGAGAAGGGAUAAUGCUACUAUCCUUUUCCACACUUGUGCUUCAUAAUAGCACCAUAUUCUUCAUGAUUGAGAGCUUCUUGCUUUGUCACUACCAUAUGCUAGUGGGAAUUUUCAUUAUAUAACUUGGUUUGUAUAUUCCAAUGAUGGGCUUCCUCAAAAUUGCCCUAUGUCUUCGUGAGCAAGCAAGUUGGAUGCACACCCACUAGUUCUCCUUUUGAGCUUUCACAUACUUAUAGCUCUAGUGCAUCUCUUGUAUGGCAAUCCCUACUCAUUCACAUUGAUAUCUAUUAAUGGGCAUCGCCAUAACCCUUUGAUACGCCGAGUCAAUGUGACUAUCUCCUCCCUUUUUGUCUCACAACCACCACCACACUCUAUUCCACCUAUAGUGCUAUAUCCAUGGCUCACGCUCAUGUGUUGCGUGACUGUUAUAAAAAGUUUGAGAAAGUAAGAGUGCGAAAACAAUUACUUGGCCAAUACCGGGGUUGUGCAUGAUUUACAUUAGUUGUGUGAGGAUGAUGGAGCAUAGCGAGUGAUGGGGUUAUAGUCCCAGGGUAGGGUCAUAGGUCUGCCCUAUAGGUCCUACCCAAGGACUACCCUUCAUAGGGGAGAAGGCCCUUAGACAGUUCCAACUGAACUAAGGACGCCCCCAUCAUCCAGUCGGCGACGAUCCACUCGGAGCAUAUCUAACGUACCGACUGGAAUCCACUCUGUACAUCCACUACAGGAAUCACCUUCUUUGGCAUCUGCCAUCACGGACGGCAAAGACAAAUACCCGGACGGCAAAGAACAUACCACAGACGGCAAAGAUUGUCACGGCUGGCAAAUUUUCUGCGUCAGCCUACGAUGGCAUAGGACAUUCUUUGCCGUCUGCCCCCCCCCCCAAAGCGGACGGCAAAGCUCUUUGCCGUCAGCUUCCUUGAGGAGCAGUCGGCAAAGAGCUUGAGACGGCAGCCGAGAGGCGUUGCCUCCGUUAGGGGUUAACGGAGGCUCUUUGCCGUCUGCCUGCUGGUCAAUCUUUGCCGUCUGCCGUGUCCUCCCCUCCCCCUCUCUCCACUCCUGCCCCUCCUCUGUGCCCUCUUCUUUGCCGUCUGCCCCCCCAGCAGGCAGACGGCAAAGAGCCUAUAUGGCCAGCUGCUACUGCCCAGGAAGCACAGCUGGUUGCCAUGUGGCACCUUUGCCGUCUGCUGGCUGAUGGCAAAGGCCUUUGCCAUCAGCCAGCAGACGGCAAAGAGCCCAUAUUGUCACUGUUUUUUUCAUUUUAUGUUAUUUCACAGCAAUAAUAUAUAUAAUUCAUAGCACAUAUAUGAUAUAUAGUUCACAACACAUAUAUGAUAUACAUAUAAAGUUAACCAAUGUCAUUUGUUCAUCAAUGGACAUCCAUAUAUCAAAAGAAACCAACAUAUACAAAGUUUCAUCCAUAUAUAUAUACAUAUAGUUCCACAUAUAUUGUUCAUCAACACAUUGNNNNNNNNNNNNNNNNNNNNNNNNNNNNNNNNNNNNNNNNNNNNNNNNNNNNNNNNNNNNNNNNNNNNNNNNNNNNNNNNNNNNNNNNNNNNNNNNNNNNGCUCCCAGCCUGGCCCUCGGCUCCUGGCGCAACAGGGCCGUGCUGAGGAACGACGAUGGCGCCGGCUCCUGGUGCCGGCUUGACAGCUAGCUCGGGCGCCAUCCCGGCCGGCGCUACCUCCUCCGCAGGAGGCGGAUGGGCCGCGUCCGGCGCAUCCACGGUCGCCCCUGGGAAGUUAGGGGCCAUGUCCGGCGCACCUAAGUCCAGCUCCGGUGCAUCGGGUGCCGCCUCGGCCCUAGGAGAGUCAGGGAUCGUUUCCAGGUCCACCUCCGCCGAGGCUUCCGGCUCUGAUGGCUGGGCCCCCUCGGCCCUUGGGGCUGGCCUGGAGGCGGCCUCGCUAGCUGGCUCCUCCGCACGAGCAUGUGCGGAGGGGUCAUGUCUAGCCUUCACACGCUUCUCCACCGGCCUCUCGACCCGGCUGGGGCGAGGCUGACCCACGGUGGCCUUCCCCGCAGCCGUGUCCCACCGGCGCUUGGACUCCGUCUCAAGCUCCCUCUGGGCAGCAUCAGCUCCUGCCCAGCCAGCCCGCUCGGCUGCGGAGGCGGUGUCUUCAUCCGCAUACUCCGCCUCCCUGUCAAGCAAAACUCCUAAGGAACAAAGCUCAUCACAAGAUGGAUAAAGGAAAAGAGGAGGAAAUCUUACCCCGCUACCANNNNNNNNNNNNNNNNNNNNNNNNNNNNNNNNNNNNNNNNNNNNNNNNNNNNNNNNNNNNNNNNNNNNNNNNNNNNNNNNNNNNNNNNNNNNNNNNNNNNAGGUUAGUUAGGUUAGUUGUUAGUGGUUACGUACUGGUAAUUAGGUUAGUUAGGUUACUUGUUAGUUGUUAGUGGUAAUUAGGUUAGUUGUUAGUGGUAUUACCCCUCGAGCUAGGUUAGUUGUUAGGUUAGUUGUUAAUUACCUACUGUGUGUUAGGUUAGUUGUUAGGUUUGUAGUUGACCGUGUAGAGCCCUCCGGUCGCCGCCUAUGCUUGCACUAGCCACAACGUUGAGGAUAUUACAACAGCUCGCAAUAGUAGUUGUCGCACCGACACGACAUCUCGACGACACCCCUGACACCCGUCACGAUGCCCCGAAACCCCGACACGACGCCCCGACACGACAUCUCNCCGACACGAUGCCCCGAAACCCCGACACGACGCCCCGACACGACAUCUCGACGACACCCCGGCAUGAAAUAUUUUUUUAUGGAACCUAGAAAGUUUUAUAAAGUAGUAUAGGUAACCUGGAAAGUUUUAUAGGUAACAUAGAAAGUUUUAUAGGUAACCUAGAAAGUUUUNNNNNNNNNNNNNNNNNNNNNNNNNNNNNNNNNNNNNNNNNNNNNNNNNNNNNNNNNNNNNNNNNNNNNNNNNNNNNNNNNNNNNNNNNNNNNNNNNNNNCAUAGUUUGAGGAGUUCAUGUGUUCACCAAGUGCUAAUGCGUUGGUCCGGUUCUUUAUGAAAAGGAGAACCUUAAUAUCCCACAGUUUCCUUUUGGACCCCGCUGCCAUGGGAGGGAUGGACAAUAGAUGUCAUGCAAGUUCUUUUCCCUAAGAAGGUAUGACGACACACGGAAUGCAUGCCUACAUCACAUUGACGAACGGGAGCUAGCCACAUAUCUCUCCGUGUUAUAGCUGUUGCAUGAUGAAUAUCAUCCAAACAAAUCACCGACCCAUUGCCUACGAGUUUGUCCUACUGCUGCUGCUACUACUAUUGCUACUACUGAUGUUACUUGUCUUGCUCUGCUGCUGCUGCUACUACUGUUGCUACUACUGUUACUUGUCUUGCUCUGCUGCUAUUGUUGCUACUACUGUCGCUUGCUACUCUUGCUACUUGCUACUGCUGUCACUACUGCUGUUCCUUGCCACUACUAUUACUCGUUACACUGCUGCUACCUGCUACACUGUUGGUUCACCGGCCGUUGACGGGAACUGACAACUUCCGUCAACGCGGCAACGGAGGCGCCAUUGAUACGAUCGUUAGGAAUAGUCUGCCGUCAACAGAUCAUUUCUGACACCGUUGUUAUCAUACUACUUUGUUGUUACUACUAUGCUUGCAAAUACUAAUCUUUCAGGUGUGGUUGAAUCCGACAAAUUCAGCUGCUAAUACUCGAGAGUAUUCUCUCACCUCCCGACUGGCUUAUGAACAAAUUGGGUCGAAUACUCUACCCUCGAAAACUACUGCGAACCCACUUGCUGGUGGGCCGUCAACAACAUUCUUCUAGUUUCAUUACUGGGGAGUGCUAUCAGCAUUCUUCUGGUGCUGUUGCAGGAGAAGGUUCGUUGUCAUAAGCAUUCGUCUAGCUAACGCCAGAGAUUGCAGAUCAGUUCUCCACUCAUCAAGCGAGCUAAUAUCAAAUAACCUCUUCUCACCGGCAAGUUUGGAAUCAAAGUUGAGCUCGUUGAUUGCCCAAUAAGCUUUAUGCUCUAUCUCAAGAGGUAAAUGACAUGCUUUACCGUACACCAUUUUCUACGCAGACAUGCCCAUGGGAUUCUUAUGGGCAGUUCUAUAAACCCAAAGUGCAUCAUCGAGCUUCUUAGACAAAUUCUUUCCAGACCUGUUGACAGUCUUUUGCAGAAUCAGUUUAAUCUCUCUAUUACUUAGCUCUACUUGACCACUGCACUGAGGGUGAUAGGGAGACGCAAUUCUAUGGUUGACAUCGUACUUAGCAAGCGUUUUACGGAAAGCGCCAUGAAUGAAGUGUGAACCACCGUCAGUCAUUAGAUAUCUAGGGACUCCAAAUCUAGGGAAGAUAACUUCUUUCAGCAUCCUGAUAGAGGUGUUGUGAUCAGCACUACUAGUGGGGAUAGCUUCUACCUACUUAGUGACGUAAUCAACAGCAACUAGGAUAUGAGUAUACCCGUUGGAUUUGUGAAAAGGUCCCAUAUAAUCAAAGUCCCAAACAUCAAAUGGUUCAAUGACAAGUGAAUAGUUCAUAGGCAUUUCCUGAUGUUUGCUAAUAUUACCUAUUCUUUGACAUUCGUCACAAGACAAGACAAACUUACGGGCAUCCUUGAAGAGAGUGGGGCCAAUAGAAACUUGAUUGCAAUACCUUGUGUGCAGUUCUAUCUCCCGCAUGGUGUCCUCCGUAGGCCUCGGAGUGACACUUCUGUAGGAUUUGUCCCUGUUCAUGUUCAGGUACACAACGUCUAAUAACACCAUCUACUCCUUCCUUACAAAGGUGAGGAUCAUCCCAAAACUAGUGUCUCAAGUCAAAGAAGAAUUUCUUCUUUUGCUGGUAUGUGCAACUAGGUGGUAUAUAUUUGGCAACGAUAUAGUUUGCAUAAUCAGGAUACCACGGUGCACUACGUGAAGCAUUGAUGACUUUCAGUUUCUCAUCGGGAAAGUUAUCAUCAAUAGGUUGUGGGUCAUCAAGAACGUUCUCCAACCUAGACAAAUUAUCUGCUACGGGGUUAUCAGCACCCUUCCUGUCGACAACGUGCAAAUCAAAUUCUUGUAGCAAGAGAACCCAUCUGGUAAGUCUAGGUUUAGUGUCCUUCUUCUCCGUGAGGUACUUAAUAGCAGCGUGAUCAGUGUGAAUAGUGACUUUGGAAUCAACUAUGUAAGACCUGAACUUUUAACCUCAAACACGACUUCUAAAAAUUCCUUCUUCGUAGUAGCAUAGUUUCUGUGGGCACUUGAUACAUCUCCAACGUAUCUAUAAUUUUUUAUGGUUCCAUGCAAUUAUCUUGUCAAACUUUGGAUGUUUUAUAUGCAUGAAUAUGCUAUUUUAUAUCUUUUGGGGGAUUAACCUAUUAACUCAGUGCCAAGUGCCAGUUUCUAUUUUUCCCGUGUUUUUGACCCUUUUUCAGAUAGAGUCCAAAUGGAAUGAAACUUUACGAUGAUUUUUUUGGGACCAAAAGAGACCCCCGAAGCUUUGGAAGAAGGCCAGAAGAGCCACGAGGGAGUCACAAGCCCAUGGGGCGCGGCCUACCCCCCUGGUCGCACCGUGCGGGCUUGUGACCUCCUCGUGGGCCCAACUAACGCAAUUCCACCGCCAUAAAUUCCUAUAAAUUCGGAAACCUCCAAAAAUAAACCUAGAUCGGGAGUUCCGCCGCCGCAAUCCUCUGUAGCCACCAAAAACCAAUCGGGAGCCCGUUCCAACACCUUGUCGGAGGGGAAUCCAUCUCCGGUGGACAUCUUCAUCAUCCCGACGAUCUCCAUGACGAGGAGGGAGUAGUUCUCCCUCGGGGGUGAGGGUAUGUACCAGUAGCUAUGUGUUUGAUCUCUCUCUCUCUCUCUCGUGUUCUUGAGAUAUCUUGAUCUCGAUGUACCGUGGGCUUUGCUACUAUAGUUGGAUCUUAUGAUGUUCUUCCCCCUCUCCCUUCUUGUAAUGAAUUGAGUUUCCCCUUUGAAGUUAUCUUAUCGGAUUGAGUCUUUGAGAACACUCGAUGUAUGUCUUGCACGUGUCUAUCUGUUGUGAUCAACUUGCGGGUUUGUGACAAUUGGGAACCUAUGCAUAUGGNNNNNNNNNNACUUUUGCUCUUGUGCUCCACUUAUAUCUUGUGAUCAACUUGCGGGUUUGUGACAAUUGGGAACCUAUGCAUAUGGGUUGGCACACGUGGAUUCAUGUGAGUACUCGAUGUAUGUUUUGGUGAUCAACUUGCGGGUUCGUGACAUUGGGAACCUAUGCAUAGGGGUUGGCACACGUUUAGACUCUCNNNNNNNNNNNNNNNNNNNNNNNNNNNNNNNNNNNNNNNNNNNNNNNNNNNNNNNNNNNNNNNNNNNNNNNNNNNNNNNNNNNNNNNNNNNNNNNNNNNNUUUUGUGAACUUCACUUUUGUCCACGACUCUGCUUUCCGACCAGAGCAUAAUUUUCUUCUCUAUGAUCUGUGUAUGUACGAGCAUAGGUUGUGGAGCAUAUAUGCAUAUGUAAAUUCUAGCACCGCCUACACAUAUACAACACCUGUGUCAUAUUUAUAAUAUAUACAACAAGCGGACCAUUGUCUUGCUGUUAAUUAUCGGAAAAGUUNNNNNNNNNNCAAUGGCCUAUGUCGUAUGAAGGUCUUCUGUGAACUUCACUUUUGUCCAUGACUCUGCUUUCCGACUAGAGCAUAAUUUGCAUCUCUAUGAUCUGUGUUUGUACGAGCAUAGGUUGUGGAGCAUAUAUGCAUAUGUAAAUUCUAGCACGGCCUACACAUAUACAACACCUGUGCCAUAUUUAUAAUAUACAACAAGCGGACCAUUGUCUUGCUGUUAAUUAUCGGAAAAGUUUAUUUUAUUUAGCACUGCAAUGGAUGUCUCGCAGCUAGUGGGUGGAAGAUUCCUGUAUUUGACAUUAAGACCCACUGAUUGACAAUUGCAAUUUUCAGUUUCUUUACUUAUAUCAAUAACAAAAUAGCUGUGGUAUCUUUUCCAUGUCACUACCAUCAUUUUCAUCGGUUUUUGCUAGUAGAAUAGGAUGACACAUAUUCUUAGUAGAGACACUUACUAAAGAACGUGUGAUGGUCUGGAUAAUAAGCAUCUAACUGACUAGAUAUAGCAACAACAUUCGAACCAUAUUAUGGAUCUAUUGGAAUAAAUCUCGAACAUGCAUUGCAUGAGCUCCUUGAGAAGGAUUGUAAUCAUGCUAGUGNNNNNNNNNNUUGUGAUGGUCUGGAUAAUAAGCAUCUAACUGAACUAGAUAUAACAACAACAUUCGAACCAUAUUAUGCAACUAUUGGAAUAAAUCUCCAACAUGCAUUGCAUGAGCUCCUUGAGAAGGAUUGUAAUCAUGCUAGUGAAAAUCAAGAAAAAAAACUCGGAUUUCUGUAAGUACUAUGGAGCAACAGCUCCACCGUCCUUUAUUCCAUGAAAACAAAAGCAGGCAAGAAAUAUUUACAAAGGGAACAAAGGAAAAAGAAAAAAACACUUACCUACUUACCUAUUUAUCUAAUGGAGGUUAGAGCAACCUCAACCGGACGAUCCAAAUGAAUGUGUGUUUUGCCCACGUUCUGACCGUUUGGGACGGCAUGUCCGCCCUGUUUUUCUUUUGGGUCGGCCGUGUGCCCAAGCGCCGACCAUCUUUCGUUAGCACGACAGGCUUGCAGGCAUUUUUUGAUCGCUUUGUCAUGUAUGUAUACAAUUUGAUCCUAUAUUAACAAAGUUAUGUAAAAAUACAAAACGUUUCAUAGUUCAGACACCACAUAAAUAUCUCAUACACUAGUAGAGAAAUGAGCUAUAGUCCCGGUUGAACACGACCUUGGACUAAAAGUCCCACCACGUGGCAGCAAGUGCGCUGGGGGUGGGGACCUUUAGUCCCGGUUGGUGACACCAACGAGGACUAAAAGGCAGCCAUGCGCUAGCACUGCUAAGCCCUGUGGUUUAUGUUUUUUUUGAGAUGGGGGUUUAUCUGUGAACGCGUGGGUCGACCACGCGGUNNNNNNNNNNNNNNNNNNNNNNNNNNNNNNNNNNNNNNNNNNNNNNNNNNNNNNNNNNNNNNNNNNNNNNNNNNNNNNNNNNNNNNNNNNNNNNNNNNNNAGAAACUUUCUGCUCACGAAAUUAUUUUUCAUUUCUAUUCAGAAAGAGAUUUUGAGUUUAUUCUUUUUGCUGCUGAUUGAUAUACUUUUUUUCCAGGCCGUCGCAAUUGUUCAGAUUUUUUCAGGUACCAGAAGUAUCCAAAGUAUACAGAUUACUACAGACUGGUCUGUUUUUGACAGAUUCUGUUUNNNNNNNNNNCUGUUUUGAUGAAACUAUGGUUAGUAUCGGGGGGUACUAGCCAUGGAAAAGUGAGAAUACAGUAGCCCAACACCAAUAUAGAUAGAAUUCAAGUUUGCUACAGUACCAAAAGAAGUGGUAAUUUGUUUUCUUGUGCUAAUGUUAUCACGAGCUUCUGUUUAAGUUUUGUUUUGUGAAGUUUUCAAGUUUUGGGUGAUGUUCUCAUGGACAAAGAGAUAAGGAGUGGUAAGAGCUCAAGCAUGGGGAUUCCCAAGGCAUCCCAAGCCAAAUUCAAGGACACCAAAAUGCCUAAGCUUGGUGAUGCCCCGGGAAGGCAUCCCCUCUUUCGUCUUCAAUCCAUCAGUAACGUUACUUAGAGCUAUAAUUUUAUUCACCACAUGAUAUGUAUUGUUCUUGGAGCGUCUUGUAUCUUAGGAGUUUUUCCUUUUUGUUUGGUCACAAUAAUCCUUGCUGCACACCUUUUUGAGAGAGAGAGAGAUGCACUUAUCGUGAUUUUGCUAGAAUGCUCAUUGUGCUUCACUUAUAUCUUUUGAGCUAGAUACUUUUGCUCUUGUGCUUCANNNNNNNNNNNNNNNNNNNNNNNNNNNNNNNNNNNNNNNNNNNNNNNNNNNNNNNNNNNNNNNNNNNNNNNNNNNNNNNNNNNNNNNNNNNNNNNNNNNNGCUCCCAGCCUGGCCCUCGGCUCCUGGCGCAACAGGGCCGUGCUGAGGAACGACGAUGGCGCCGGCUCCUGGUGCCGGCUUGACAGCUAGCUCGGGCGCCAUCCCGGCCGGCGCUACCUCCUCCGCAGGAGGCGGAUGGGCCGCGUCCGGCGCAUCCACGGUCGCCCCUGGGAAGUUAGGGGCCAUGUCCGGCGCACCUAAGUCCAGCUCCGGUGCAUCGGGUGCCGCCUCGGCCCUAGGAGAGUCAGGGAUCGUUUCCAGGUCCACCUCCGCCGAGGCUUCCGGCUCUGAUGGCUGGGCCCCCUCGGCCCUUGGGGCUGGCCUGGAGGCGGCCUCGCUAGCUGGCUCCUCCGCACGAGCAUGUGCGGAGGGGUCAUGUCUAGCCUUCACACGCUUCUCCACCGGCCUCUCGACCCGGCUGGGGCGAGGCUGACCCACGGUGGCCUUCCCCGCAGCCGUGUCCCACCGGCGCUUGGACUCCGUCUCAAGCUCCCUCUGGGCAGCAUCAGCUCCUGCCCAGCCAGCCCGCUCGGCUGCGGAGGCGGUGUCUUCAUCCGCAUACUCCGCCUCCCUGUCAAGCAAAACUCCUAAGGAACAAAGCUCAUCACAAGAUGGAUAAAGGAAAAGAGGAGGAAAUCUUACCCCGCUACCACACGGACCUGCCUCCGGCCAGCACUGCGGCGUCUCUUGACGCCGCAUGCUCGCUGUCCAGCUGGAGGACCUGGCGCCGGCCGCAUAGAGGCCGGCGGGGAAGCUGUGGCACCCUUGCCCUUCUUCCCGGCUGCCUCGUCAGCAGCGGUCACUCCGCCCCUUUGACGCCGGCCGCGCGUCAGUGGUGGGCUGGUGACCUCCUCCACCUCAUCAGACUCCUCCUCGAAGGCUGCACCAAAACAGAAUGAGGCUAUCUCGUUGUCGUCCGUCCAGUCUGCAACGGCGGGCCGUGCGUACUCACCAGACGACUCGGUUCCUUCCGACUCCAGGGGAUUCUCCGAGCCGGCGGAGGAGUCUGAGCGGGAUUCCAUCACGCCCUCGUCCUCAAUAUCCGAGACAUUGGACACCUCCACAUCGGGAGCGGGCGGAAGGAGGGACCCCUGCAGGGUCUCGAACAGCUACAGAAAAGAGUUCAACCAAAGGCUCAGCAACGCAACCGGCUUCAAGACAAAACAACAGAGAAGAAAGAGGCCACCUACCACCGGAGGCGGAUGAACCCUGUUGAACGGGGACAUCCCCCACGUCCAUUCCCCGCUCUCAUCCAUGCGGGCGAUGGAGAUCAGGUUCACCCUUCGCGCUAUAGCGCCCGGGGUGAACCUCUUGGUGGAUAGCCGGCAUAGAUCAUGUCGGCCGCCCAUCUGGCAAACCAGAUGCGGCCGCCUCUGCGGGGGUUGAAUCCGGCGGACAACCAUGGUGGUGAGAAGGUCGCGGCCGAGGAGGCCGCUCUUCUCCAAAAUGUCGAGGUGGGCACAGAUAAGCGCCACCUCAGGAUGUGGCUUGGGAGUCUUCGCAUCCCAGUUUCGCCGCGUCGGCAGGGCGAUGUCGAACGGGGGCAUGUUGAUGGCGUCCUGGGCUGGGUCGGCGCUCUUCACGUAGAAGAAACCCUUCUUCCAAUGCUUGAUGGAUUCUUGCAGAGGCAUCUGGGGGACGCCAGACUUCGAGCGAUGAUGCACCAAUGCGGCCCCGCACGGCGUCAUUGGGCGCGGCCCCGUGAGCUUCUCCACCUCGGAUUUCUCCAUGGCGAUGGAUUGCUGCUUAAAGAAGAACAGGCUGCGCCACAGAUCGACGCGAGGCUCGAUCCCCACGAAGCCCUCGCACAGGACCAUGAAGGCGGCAAGCUGCAGUAUGGCGUUCGGCGCCAGAUGAUGCGGCUGCAGGCCAAAGAAAUGCAGCCAUUCGGCGAAAAAAGAGCUAGCCGGGAGCCCGAAGCCCCGGUAGAAGUGCUCGACGUAGACCACGACCUCUCCCGCGGCGGGUGCAGGAGCGGUCUCGGCGCUGGGGAGGCGCACCAAUACUUGGGAGGCCGGGGGCAGCAGUCGAUGGUGACGAAGCGCUUCGAUGUGCCCCUCGUCAACGUCGCUACCCAACCAGGCUCCCUGUGAGGACGCCUUCUGCGUCGAGGACUUCUUCGAGGAAGAACCGCCGGCCAUGGCUGUGGGUGACAAGAGCUCGAAGUAGUCGGCGAUGUCGCGACGGCGAAGAUGAAGAGGGCGAAGGGCGCGAGCUCUUCUUCUCAGAGCGCAGGGAGGAAGAGAGCGCGAAUGCAGGGCGACAAGAGGGGGCGAAUGGCUUCCUCAGAACCCUCGCGUCCCAUUUAAACCCCCACGAAGCGUCAUGGGGAGGGGAUCCGGUGCGCACCGGGCCCCAUUAACCCCGUGUAUUACGGGCGGUAACGCGUCCCUAAGCCCAACUGCCGCGGAGUAAAUCCGCAGAGGAUCUCCCGCGCGGAGGCCGAGGGGGCGUCGUGGCGAGACCCAGAGCCCAGGCCCGGUCCCGUCAGCAGUAAUCGCCAUCAUUCCGCCAGGCGGGGCCUGGCACGUGGCGUUCUCCGAGCAAGUUACGACUAGACCGAGGCGUCGCUUCGAAGCCACCCGGUUUCGAAGCCGGCGUCCUUCGUCACGAAUAGAGGCCAAAAUAUCAAGACAAAUCAACAAGCCGGUGAGGCCGCCCACCCGCAGGCGGCAGACCUCGCCAGCUUCGGGGACUACUGUCGGGGGGAUAACCCCGGGGUAGGCUUAUCGAGCCUAUUCCUUCAUUUCCGGCCCAAUGGACAUGAACGUAUGCAGAUUCCCAAGGCCCAAGUCUUCUGGCCGGCUAGGCAUCACCUACCGGCUAGAGGACUUGGCGGCCAUCUUUCUGUUCGGCCAGGCAACCCUUGCCAGCUAGAGUCAAGGCGGCCUCCUCUUCUGAGCCGGCCAGGUCCCGCCAGCCGGACUGGGGAGGAGGCGGCCGCACUUAAGCCGGCUAGCCAAGAAGGCUAGUCGGUCGAGGAUCACAGGUCACAUCAGACCGUAGGUCAGGAUAAGACCUCACGAUUAAAGGUAGCUACGCGUCAACAAAGGUACUGGAUUGGGGCGCCCGGCAGGUACGAGCGUCGGCGGCAACGCCGCUCACCUACCCCGGUUCUGAUCCAUCACCUAGCAUAGUGUCGGACCAUCACACUCCCACUCCAUUACUGCACUCGGCGUGGGGAACAGUGGAGACGGCCGUACUACCUGCCCAUGAAGAAUCUCGCGGGGCGACGCUUGACGUACAACGCGUGCUCGGCGUCAACCUUACGCGAGAGCCUCAUUGGCCAGCCGGCGGGUCCCACAAGCAAUCGAGACCAUGCAGCCGGCGGGCCCCCCAGUGACAAGACAAGACUCUUGUGGGCCCCUGGCCAGCCGGGUCCCACACUUGUACGCUUUAUCCAUAUUGUAGGCCGACGGGUUCGUCUAUAAAACCCCCCGGUCACCCUCCAUGCAGGGGGGCCGAUCAUUCACCAGUCAUUCAACACAACACAUUCACCAACCACAGAGAGGGAGGUAGAGAUGAGCCGGCUCCUCCCCUCUUCCUCCUCCCAACACAGCUCUAGGAGCGACAUUGUACUCUAUUCAUACACAUCAAACACUCCGGUAGGANNNNNNNNNNGGGUAUUAUCUCUGCGGAGAGCCCUGAACCUGGGUACAUCGUGCGUCCCAUGCGUGUACCAACCUCGUUCCCAGCGUCCACCUUUGUCCCUUCGGUUCUCACCGACUUUAGCCUACCUAUCGCAUAUGUUGUGAGUAUUCACCGACAAUGGUAUUCUCCUUUGAAUGUUUCAAGUGGCUUGACUUGACGCAUGUUCAUGCAUGUAGUUGAAACAAAAUCAACAUAGCCUCUGUGAUGUUCGUAUUCAUGGUGAUUUAUAUCCUGUUCAUGCUUGCAUUCAAUGGUAGUCAAACUCAUUGCAUCUUGAUGAUUGUUGUCGCUCUCUAGUUGGUCGCUUCCCAGUAUUUUGCUAGCCUUCACUUGUACUAAGCGUGAAUACUGCUUGUGCAUCCACUUCCAUAAACCCAAAAGUUUUCCAUGAGAGUCCACCAUACCUACCUAUUUGCGGUAUCUACCUGCCGUUCCAAGUAAAUUUGCAUGUGCCAUUCUCUAAACCUUCAAGAAAUAAUCUGUUUUGCAUGCCCGAACCGCUCAUGUGGUGAUAGAGGGCUAUUGGUAUCUUCCAUGAUAGGAGUGUUAUCCUCGACAUGUGUUUAUUCACAGUCAUUCAUGAGAAAGGGGCCGGUAUUUGGGAUGCCCAGUUCGACGCUUAAAUCGAAAACAUAACUGUAAAACAAGACUCCCCCCGGAUUGAUGUUAGUAUGGACGGUACCCGAGGAUUCGGCUAGCCAUGGUGUGUGAUUGGUUGGUGGUGGGGGAGUUAAAACUUUACUUUUCUGUUUGGGAACCGCCUAUAGCAUGAGUAGCAUGGAAGAUAUUGAGAACUCUUGGUCAUUGCGUUGACAAUGCAAGCAUGCCACCCAAAAUUAUUAUCUCUGUUUUCAAACCUUGCGCUCUGGCACCUGUGCAAAUCAAUGCUUCCCUCUGCGAAGGGCCUAUCUAUUUAUUUUCCGGUCGAGUCAUCCUCCUUUUAUAUAAGCACCAAUUAGAAAGCACAUCUGUCAUUUUUAUGCUUUGCUUUUGAUUGAUAUUGAGUAUGACUAUGACUGGAUAUUCGUUGCUAUGAAUUACAAUGUUUAGUCAGCCCUUGAUCUUUGAAAGUGCUCUGCAUUUAUGUUUUGCGGUCGCAGAAAGAGCUAGCGAGAUACCACCUAUUCAUAUUGCUUCAUGCUUGUUUUGAUUGAAGUGUUGGUAUUUGAAACACGUUAUUAUUUGCUCGUUAGCUGAUUAUGCCAUUGAUAUUAGUUUACCAUGAGACCAUUGUGUCAUUUGCUUUUGUGGUUAACUUGUGACCUUGCUGAAAUUCUGGUUAUGAAUUAGACAUAGUUGCAACAACAAGAUCAAACAGAGUUUGUCAAAGUUUUUCUUUCUCUCUCAGUUUGUCAACUGAGUUGCUUCAUGACAAGCAAGGUUCUAAGCUUGGGGGAGUUGAUACGUCUCCGUAGUAUCUACUUUUCCAAACUCUUUUGCCCUUGUUUUGGACUCUAAUUUGCGUGAUUUGAAUGGAACUAACCUGGACUGAUGUUGUUUUCAGCAGAAUUGCCUUGGUGUUAUUUUUGUGCAGAAAUCAAAGUUCUCCAAAUGUCCUGAAAAUUUACAGGGAGCAGUUUUGGAAAAUAUCCAAAAUAUCUGCGCCAAGUUCCACCUCAGGGGGUGGGCAAGUGGGCCACAAGCCCUUGCUCCGCCACCACCCCCCUGGUGGUGUGGUGGAGGCUUGUGGGGCCCACACGGCUCUUCCACCCCCAAUCUCAGGUCUAUAAGAUCCCUUUCGUCCCAGAAAAAAUAAAAAGAGAAGUCUUCGUCGCGUUUUCGAUACGGACGCGCCGCCACCGCCUGUUCUUUAUCUGGAGGGAAGAUCUGGAGUCCGUCUUGGACUCCGGAGAGGGGAAAUCGUCGCCAUCGUCAUCAUCAACCUUCUUCUCUCUCCAAUUCCAUGAAGCUCUUCGUCGUUCGUGAGUAAUCUAUUCGUAGGCUCGCUGGGCGGUGAUGAGUAGGAUGAGAUCUAUCAUGUAAUCGAGUUAGUUUUGAUGGGGAUUGCUCCCUAGUAUCCACUAUGUUCUGAGAUUGAUGUUGCUACUACUUUGCCAUGUUUAAUGCUUGUCACUAGGGCCCGAGUGCCAUGAUUUCAGAUCUGAAAUUAUUAUGUUGUCACCAAUAUAUGUGUGUUUUAGAUCCGAUCUUGCAAGUUGUAGUUACAUACUAUGUGUUAUGAUCCGGCAACCCCGGAGUGACAAUAACUGGAACCACUCCCGGUGAUGACCAUAGUUUGAGGAGUUCAUGUGUUCACCAAGUGCUAAUGCGUUGGUCCAGUUCUUUAUUAAAAGGAGAACCUUAAUAUCCCAUAGUUUCCUUUUGGAUCCCGCUGCCACGGGAGGGAUGGACAAUAGAUGUCAUGCAAGUUCUUUUCCCUAAGCAUGUAUGACGACACACGGAAUGCAUGCCUACAUCACAUUGACGAACGGGAGCUAGCCACAUAUCUCUCCAUGUUAUAGCUAUUGCAUGAUGAAUAUCAUCCAAACAAAUCACCGACCCAUUGCCUAUGAGUUUGUCCUACUGCUGCUGUUACUUAUCUUGCACUGCUGUUACUGCUACUAUUGUUGCUACUGCUGUUACUUGUCUUGCUCUGCUGCUACUGUUGCUACUACUGUCGCUUGCUACUGUUGCUACUUGCUAGUGCUGUCACUACUACUGUUCCUUGCCACUACUAUUGCUCGUUACACUGCUGCUACCUGCUACACUGUUGGUUCACCAGCCGUUGACGGGAACUGACAACUUCCGUCAACGAGGCAACGGAGGCGCCAUUGAUACAAUCGUUAGGAAUAGUCUGCCAUCAAAAGAUCGUUUCUGACACCGUUGUUAUCAUACUACUUUGUUGUUACUACUGUGCUUGCAGAUACUAAUCUUUCAGGUGUGGUUGAAUCCGACAAAUUCAGCUGCUAAUNNNNNNNNNNNNNNNNNNNNNNNNNNNNNNNNNNNNNNNNNNNNNNNNNNNNNNNNNNNNNNNNNNNNNNNNNNNNNNNNNNNNNNNNNNNNNNNNNNNNACCCACUUCCUAUGCAUAGGGAUUUUGUGAUCAAACAAUUUAUUGGAGCAAUAAUCAACUAGCAUAGGAAGGCAAAACAAGCAUAGAUUCAAAAAUUCAACACAUGGAGAGGAAGCUUGAUACUAUUGCAAUAAGUAGAAGCANNNNNNNNNNUUUAACGUCCUUAGCUAGGCAUUGAUUUCAAUGAUGCUCACAUAAAAUGUAAGGAUUGAAACACAACGAGAGCAUCAUGGAGCAUGUGGCUAGCACAUUUAAGUCUAACCCACUUCCUAUGCAUAGGGAUUUUGUGAUCAAACAAUUUAUUGGAGAAAGAAUCAACUAGCAUAGGAAGGCAAAACAAGCAUAGCUUCAAAAAUUUCAACACAUGGAGAGGAAGCUUGAUACUAUUGCAAUAAGUAGAAGCAUAUGAUCCUCUCUCAUAGUAAUUUUCAGUAGCAUCAUGAAUGAAUUCAACAAUAUAACCAUCACCCAAGGCUUUCUUUUCAUGAUCUACAAGCAUAGGAAUUUUACUACUCUCCACAUAAGGAAAUCUAUUCUCAAGAAUAGUAGUGGGAGUAUCGUAAAAGACUUGAGCACUACAAAUUGUGUCCACAAUGAAAAAGCAAGGUUUAGCAAAGGGGUUUUCGAAAGUAUGACAAAUUUUAUCAUCCAUCUUCUUCAAAGCAUAAGUAUCCUCACAAUAAUCAUCAUAGAUAGGCGGCAUGCUUUCAUCAAAAUGAUUUUGAUCAUUCAAAGUGGAAGAUCUAAAAAGAUCAUCUUCAUCAAAUAUAGCAUCCCCAAGCUUGUGGCUUUGCAUAUCAUUAGCAUCAUGGGUAUUAAAAGAAUUCAUGCUAAGAACAUUGCAAUCAUGCUCAUCAUUCACAUAUUCUAUGCCAAGCAUUCUAUGUAAUUCUUCUUUAAGCACUUGAGCACAAUUUUCCUUCCCAUCAUGCUCACGAAAGACAUUGAAAAGAUGGAGCAUAUGAGGCAUCCUCAAUUCUAUUUUUUUGUUUUCUAGCGAAAGAACAAGAAACAAAAAGAUUUGAUUGCAAGAUCUAAAGAUAUACCUUCAAGCGCUAACCUCCCCGGCAANNNNNNNNNNGAAAAAUACUUCGUUGACGGGAGGUGAGUGCCGCUUACCUAGCCUCCCUAGCAACGGCGCCAGAAAAAUGCUUGAUGUGUACUACGCAACCUUCUCCUUGUAGACGUUGUUGGGCCUCCAAGUGCAGAGGUUUGUAGAACAAUAGCAAUUUUCCCUCAAGUGGGUGACCUAAGGUUUAUCAAUCCGCGGGAGGCGUAGGAUGAAGAUGGUAUCUCUCAAGCAACCCUGAAACCAAAUAACAAAGAGUCUCUUGUGUCCCCAACACACCAAAUACAAUGGUAAGUUGUAUAGGUGCACUAGUUCGGCGAAGAGAUGUUGAUACAAGUGCAAUACUGAUGGUAGAUAUAGGUUUUUGUAAUCUGAAAUUACAAAAACAACAAGGUAACAAGUAACAAAAGUGAGCACGAACGGUAUUGCAAUGCGUGGAAACAAGGCGUAGGGUUCAUACUUUCACUAGUGAAGUUCUCUCAACAAAGAUAACAUAAAUGGAUCAUAUAACUAGCCCUCAACAUGCAACAAAGAGUCACUCCAAAGUCACUAAUAGCGGAGAACAAACGAAGAGGUUAUUGUCGGGUACGAAACCACNNNNNNNNNNGUCUAUUGUCACCUCAAGUAUCUGUGGGCAUGAUUAUACGAUAUGCAUCACACAAUCUCAGAAUCAUCUAUUCAACCAACACAUAGAACUUCAAAGAGUUCCCCAAAGUUUCUACUGGAGAGUCUAAACGUGUGCCAACCCCUAUGCAUAGGUUCCCAAUGUCACNNNNNNNNNNAUGAGUAUGAUUAUACGAUAUGCAUCACACAAUCUCAGAAUCAUCUAUUCAACCNNNNNNNNNNGUGGGCAUGAUUGUACGAUAUGCAUCACACAGUCUCACAAUCAUCUAUUCAACCAACACAUAGAACUUCAAAGAGUGCCCCAAUGUUUCUACCAGAGAGUCAAAACGUGUGCCAACCCCUAUGCAUAGGUUCCCAAUGUCACGAACCCGCAAGUUGAUCACCAAAACAUACAUCGAGUACUGACAUGAAUCCACGUGUGACAACCCAUAUGAAUAGGUUCCCAAUUGUCACAAACCCGCACGUUGAUCACAACAGAUAGACACGUGCAAGGCAUACAUCAAGUGUUCUCAAAGACUCAAUCCGAUAAGAUAACUUCAAAGGGGAAAUUCAAUUCAUUACAAGAAGGGAGAGGGGGAAGAACAUCAGAAGAUCCAACUAUAGUAGCAAAGCCCACGGUACAUCGAGAUCAAGACAUCUCAAGAACACGAGAGAGAGAGAUCAAACACAUAGCUACCGGUACAUACCCUUAGCCCCGAGGGAGAACUACUCCCUCCUCGUCAUGGAGAUCGCCGGGAUGAUGAAGAUGGCCACCGGAGAUGGAUUCCCCCUCCGACAGGGUGCCGGAACGAGCUCCCGAUUGGUUUUUGGUGGCGACACAGGCUUGCGGCGGCGGAACUCCUGAUCUAGGUUUAUUUUUGGAGGUUUCUGAAUUUAUAGGAAUUUAUGGCGGUGGAAUUGCGUCAGUUGGGCCCACGAGGAGGUCACAAGCCCGCACGGUGCGACCAGGGGGGUAGGCCGCGCUCCAUGGGCUUGUGACUCCCUCGUGGAUCUUCUGGCCUUCGUCCAAAGCUUCGGGGGUCUCUUUUGGUCCAAAAAAAUCAUUGUAAAGUUUCAUUCCAUUUGGGCUCCGUCUAAAAAAGGGUAAAAAACACGGAAAAAACAGAAACUGGCACUUCGCACUGAGUUAAUAGGUUAAUCCCAAAAAAGAUAUAAAAUAGCAUAUUCAUGCAUAUAAAACAUCCAAAGUUUGACAAGGUAAUAGCAUGGAACCAUCAAAAAUUAUAGAUAUGUUGGAGACGUAUCAAGCAUCCCCAAGCUUAACUCGUGCUCGUCCUCGAGUAGGGAAGUGAAAAAGAAUGAAUUUUUGAUGUGGAAUGCUACCUAGCAUAGUUGUCCUUUGCAACUUCUUUCACGUGACAUGAAUGUUCAGAUCCGUAAGAUUCGAAACAAUAGUUUGCUAUUGACAUGAAAACGGUAAUACUUCAAGACAACUAGCAAAGUAAUCAUGAACUUUCAAAAUAACAAGGCCAAAAAAUGUUAUCCCUACAAAAUCAUAUAGUCUGGCUAUGCUCCAUCAUCCUCACACAACUAAUGGAAAUCAUGCACAACCCCGGUAUUGGCCAAGUAAUUGUUUUCGCACUCUNNNNNNNNNNACAAACUUUUUAUAACUAUCACGCAAUACAUGAGCGCGAGCCAUGGAUAUAGCACUAUAGGUAGAAUAGAGUAUGGUGGUGGUUGUGAGACAAAAAGGAGGAGAUGGUCACAUUGGCUCGGUGUAUCAAAAGGCUAUGGAGAUGCCCAUUAAUAGAUAUCAAUGUGAAUGAGUAGGGAUUGCCAUACAAGAGAUGCACUAGAGCUAUAAGUAUGUGAAAGCUCAAAAGGAAAACUAGUGGGUGUGCAUCCAACUUGCUUGCUCACGAAGACCUAGGGCAAUUUUGAGGAAGCCCAUCAUUGGAAUAUGCAAGCCAAGUUAUAUAAUGAAGAUUCCCACUAGCAUAUGGUAGUGACAAAGCAAGAAGCUCUCAAUCAUCAAGAACAAUGUGCUAACAUGAAGCACAAGUGUGGAAAAAUAUAGUAGCAUUGUCCCUUCUCUCUUUUUCUCUUUUUUUUCAUUUGGGCUCUUAGGAAUCUUUUUUUCUUUCCUUUUUUUUCUUUUUGAUUUUGGGCUCUUUGGCCUUUUUUUUAUUUCCUCACAUGGGACAAUGCUCUAAUAAUGAUGAUCAUGACACUUUUAUUUACUCACAGCUCAAAGAUCACAGUGUUGAUGACUCCACAGGAAAUGCCUCUGCCAGUGUACCGGGAUGUGCAACGAUCUAGCAUGGCGUAUGACAUUAAAACAUCUCGCUAGCUAUCUUACGAUCAUGCAAUGGCAAUAUGAGAGUGACGGCACAAGUCAUGAGACGGAACGGUGGGAGUUGCAUGGCAAUACAUCUCGAAUGACUAUGAAAAUGCCAUAGUAGGUAGGUAUGGUGGCUGUUUUGAGGAAGGAAUUUGGUGGGUUUGAAUACCGGCGAGAAUUGCGCGACACUAGAGAGGCUAGCAAUGGUGGAUGGUGAAAGUGCAUGUAUACCGUGGGCUCACAUUAGUCAUGAAGAACUCACAUACUUAUUGCGAAUGUUUUUAUUAGUAAUCAAACACAAAGUGCUAAACGCAUACUCCGAGGGGAAGGGUUGGUAGGUGUAACCCAUCGCGCGAUCCCGACCUCAACACAAAGGAUGACAAUCAAUAGAUCAAUUAUGCUCUGACUUCCUAACGUAGCGGUUCACCAUACGUGCAUGCUACGGGAAUCACUAACUUCAACACAAGUAUUUCUAGAUUCACAACACCUUACUAACGCAACUAUUAAUAUUACCGAAUCCACGUCUCAAAACUAAUUGAGAGGAAUCAAAACUUCUCUUUCUAUUCAAUGCACAUGAAGAUGGAGCUUUUUGUAUCCUCUUUGGGCACCUAUCACAUUUGGUACUACUUUCAUAGCAUAAGCCAACUACCAAGUCACGCACCGCCGUGCUCUGAAGAUAUAAGUGAAGCACAAGAGCAAAAUAAUCUAGCUCAAAAGAUAUAAGUGAAGCACAAGAGCAAAAGUAUCUAGCUCAAAAGAUAUAAGUGAAGCAGAAUGAGCUUUCUAGCAAAAUCACGAUGAGUGCAUGUAUUUCUCUCUCAAAAAGUUGUGCAGCAAGGAUUAUUGUGACCAAACAAAAAGAAAAAACUCCUAAGAUACAAGACGCUCCAAGCAAAACAUAUAUCAUGUGGUGAAUAAAAAUAUAGCUCCAAGAAAUGUUACCGAUGGAUUGAAGACGAAAGAGGGGAUGCCUUCCCGGGGCAUCCCCAAGCUUAGGCUUUUUGGUGUCCUUNNNNNNNNNNNNNNNNNNNNNNNNNNNNNNNNNNNNNNNNNNNNNNNNNNNNNNNNNNNNNNNNNNNNNNNNNNNNNNNNNNNNNNNNNNNNNNNNNNNNNNNNNNNNNNNNNNNNNNNNNNNNNNNNNNNNNNNNNNNNNNNNNNNNNNNNNNNNNNNNNNNNNNNNNNNNNNNNNNNNNNNNNNNNNNNNNNNNNNNNNNNNNNNNNNNNNNNNNNNNNNNNNNGAAAUGAACUACCACUUGUUUUGGUACUGUAGCAAACUUGAAUUCUAUCUAUAUUGAUGAUGGGCUACUGUAUUCUCACUUUUCCAUGGCUAGUACCCCCUGAUACUAACCAUAGUUUCAUCAAAACAAGCAACCAACUCAACAAAAACAGAAUCUGUCAAAAACAGACCAGUCUGUAGUAAUCUGUAUACUUNNNNNNNNNNNNNNNNNNNNNNNNNNNNNNNNNNNNNNNNNNNNNNNNNNNNNNNNNNNNNNNNNNNNNNNNNNNNNNNNNNNNNNNNNNNNNNNNNNNNCUUUUAUAUGUUUUAUUCACAAUUAUUCAUUGGACUACAAAAGUGUUGGAAAUGCUUUUUUUUUUGUGAGUAGAAAUGCUACUUAAUUGGGUGUCCAAGCAAGGUAAGACUUUGUUUUAAUCCAUAGCUAAAGUUUUAGAAUCCUCUGUUGUCCAUUUUGCUCUGUCCAUGUCGUCCCCAGUGAACUCAUAAAUUAUGUUUGGUGAGUCCAUCAUGAUUUUGUAUCAUCGUUGAAUCUAGCCCACAAAAAAGGAAGGGGCCAUUAGCUCCCAUCCGACGUCGUUGAGUUGAAUUAUCUCUCAUGCGACGUCGUUGGUUGUAAUGGCUCUCAUGCGACAUCUUCCAGCGCAGAAAUAGCUUAAGCAACUCAACCCGUUUACGGGGCUGGCUGGCUGUUAGUUAGGCUGAGAUUUGGUUAGGAAUGUGCUUUGACUGGUGGGGUCCACCUACGGCCACGUCGUCAAGAGUCAACCGUCCACUACUCGAUCGGUGACUGUCUGACCAUACUCGACUCGAUCGUGCACGACUGGGCGAGCAGCGCCGCCGUGUGCAUCUUCUCCGGCAGNNNNNNNNNNCGAAUGUGUUCUGACUGGCGGGGUCCACCUAUGGCCACGUCGUCAAGAGUCAACCGUCCACUACUCGAUCGGUGACUGUGUGACCAUACUCGACCCGACCGUGCACGACUGGGCGAGCAGCGCCGCCGUGUGCAUCUUCUCCGGCAGAGGUAGCAGUUUCUUCUCCGCGGUGGUGGAGCGCCUUUCUCGGCAGCGGCAGAGCUAUUGCGAGUGAGUAUUUUCGAAACCCUAGUCCCAUUCCCCAGAUUUUUGGAUAGAUCUGUGGCCUCAUGCUCUGUUUCUUGACGAUUUAGAAUCUCGAUUGGAUAGGAGCGCGUGGGCUGAAUUAGAUGGAGCGAGGAGACAGUGCUUCAAAUCGGUAAUGCCGCCCCUCCCUCUUUUCUCUUUUAGCUGUUAUCAAACUCGAUUUGAUAGUGACCGUCUUACACUGCCGCUGCCCGCCAUUGACAAAACAGGGGAGGUUCUGGUUCUACCACCAUAUUCGCAAUUAUAGUGCAUUUUUUCCCUGUAAAGCCAAGCUUAGUGAUGGCAGUGUCCAAGACAUUUAUAGAGAUACCUCCGUGAGGUUGGAUGUCGAAGUGCAGAUGUUGAUCCCCAGGACUUAGAGGGCAUGAAGGAGAAGGCCGUGGGAAAUUUGGUGGAGAGAAUUGGGGAGAGUAUUGUUUGGGGUCCAGAACAAGAGAUAUCUCUGCAACGUUUCGACAACUAUUAUGGUGAAUAUGUUAGAAUUGAAGAUGGAGAAUCCAUGGUUGCUGAAAUUGAUCAGCAAGAACGGUGGGCAUGCAAACAAGUAACAUUUUAUGCAGAGCUAAUUGAUCUGCAAACUAAUUCCAGAGUUGAUUAUGUGCCAUCAAAGAUGGCUGCACAGUUGGAAGAUGAUGUGUGGGUUUCACAAAAGAAUAGUAUGUUGGCAUUGUUGACUGAACCGACUGUACUAGAUGAUGAUACAGAUAUUGAUGCAGAUGGAGAGGAGGGAACCCAUGGUGCUAGGAAGAUUGUUGUUGACUGGAAUGUAGUAGAGUUCAAUGAAAAAACAGAUUUGUUCAUUGCACCAAUAUGUGACAUUGAUAUGGCUGAAAUGUUUGGCAUUCAAGUUGAUGACAAAGAUAAGGAGAAGGAUGACAAUUCUUUGCCCGCUGAUGGUAACACGGGCCUAGAAAUGCAAAUGAGGAUGAACAAGAGCUGAUGAGAAUGGUUGCAGAUGAUGUGGAUGAUACAAAUGAUAAUGAGCUAGUUUGUUUGUAUGACAAAGAGAACCCAGUUAUUGAGGUGGGAAAGUUGUGGCCAAGCAUNNNNNNNNNNNNNNNNNNNNNNNNNNNNNNNNNNNNNNNNNNNNNNNNNNNNNNNNNNNNNNNNNNNNNNNNNNNNNNNNNNNNNNNNNNNNNNNNNNNNUUGUUUUGUGAAGUUUUCAAGUUUUGGGUGAUGUUCUCAUGGACAAAGAGAUAAGGAGUGGAAAUAGCUCAAGCUUGGGGAUGCCCAAGGCAUCCCAAGCCAAAUUCAAGGACACCAAAAAGCCUAAGCUUGGGGAUGCCCCGGGAAGGCAUCCCAUCUUUCGUCUUCAAUCCAUCGGUAACAUUACUUGGAGCUAUAUUUUUAUUCACCACGUGAUAUGUGUUUUGCUUGGAUCGUCUUGUAUCUUAGGAGUCUUUUCGUUUUGUUGUGUCACAAUCAUCCUUGCUCCACACCUUUUUGAUAGAGAGAGAGACAUGCACUCAUCGUGAUUUUUCUAGAAUGCUCAUAGUGCUUCACUUAUAUCUUUUGAGCUAGAUACUUUUGCUCUAGUGCUUCACUUAUAUCUUUUAGAGCACGGCGGUGCGUGAUUUGGUAGUUGACUUAUGCUAUGAAAGUAGUCCCAAAUGUGAUAAGUACCCAAAGAGGAUGCAAAAACCUCCAUUUUCAUGUGCAUUGAGUAGAAAGAGAAGUUUUGAUUCCUCCAAUUAGUUUUGAGACGUGGAUUUGGUAAUAUUAAGAGCUAUGUUAGUAGGGUGUUGUGAAUCUAGAAAUACUUGUGUUGAAGUUAGUGAUUCCUGUAGCAUGCACGUAUGGUGACCGCUAUGUUAGGAAAUCGGAGCAUAAUUGAUCUAUUGAUUGUCAUCCUUUGUGUUGAGGUCGGGAUCGCGCGAUGGUUAACACCUACCAACCCUUCCCCUCAGAGUAUGCGUUUAGCACUUUGUUUCGGUUACUUAUAAAAACUUUCGCAACAAGUAUGUGAGUUAUUCAUGACUAAUGUGAGUCCAUGGUAUAGAUGAACUUUCACCUUCCACCAUUACUAGUCUCUUUAGUGCCGCGCAAUUCUCGCCGGUGCACAAACCCACCAUAUGCCUUCCUCAAAACAGCCACCAUACCUACCCACUAUGGCAUUUUCAUAGCCAUUCCGAGAUAUAUUGCCAUGCAACUCCCACCGUUCCGUCUCAUGACUUCUGCCGUCACUCUCAUAUUUCCAUUGCAUGAUCGUAAGAUAGCUAGCGAGAUGUUUCAACGGCAUACGCCAUCUAGAUCGUUGCACAUCCCGGUACACUGCCGGACGCAUUUCCUAUAGGGUCGUCAUCAUUGAGCUAUGAGUAAAUUAAAGUGUGAUGAUCAUCAUUAUUAGAGAAUUGUCCCGUGUGAGGAAAUAAAAAAAGAGUCCAAAGAGCCCAAAAACAAAAAAAGGAGAAAAGAAAAAAAGGCCUAAGAGCCCAAAUGAAAAAAAGAGAAAAGAGAGAAAAAGAGAGAAGGGAUAAUGCUACUAUCCUUUUCCACACUUGUGCUUCAUAAUAGCACCAUAUUCUUCAUGAUUGAGAGCUUCUUGCUUUGUCACUACCAUAUGCUAGUGGGAAUUUUCAUUAUAUAACUUGGUUUGUAUAUUCCAAUGAUGGGCUUCCUCAAAAUUGCCCUAUGUCUUCGUGAGCAAGCAAGUUGGAUGCACACCCACUAGUUCUCCUUUUGAGCUUUCACAUACUUAUAGCUCUAGUGCAUCUCUUGUAUGGCAAUCCCUACUCAUUCACAUUGAUAUCUAUUAAUGGGCAUCGCCAUAACCCUUUGAUACGCCGAGUCAAUGUGACUAUCUCCUCCCUUUUUGUCUCACAACCACCACCACACUCUAUUCCACCUAUAGUGCUAUAUCCAUGGCUCACGCUCAUGUGUUGCGUGACUGUUAUAAAAAGUUUGAGAAAGUAAGAGUGCGAAAACAAUUACUUGGCCAAUACCGGGGUUGUGCAUGAUUUACAUUAGUUGUGUGAGGAUGAUGGAGCAUAGCGAGUGAUGGGGUUAUAGUCCCAGGGUAGGGUCAUAGGUCUGCCCUAUAGGUCCUACCCAAGGACUACCCUUCAUAGGGGAGAAGGCCCUUAGACAGUUCCAACUGAACUAAGGACGCCCCCAUCAUCCAGUCGGCGACGAUCCACUCGGAGCAUAUCUAACGUACCGACUGGAAUCCACUCUGUACAUCCACUACAGGAAUCACCUUCUUUGGCAUCUGCCAUCACGGACGGCAAAGACAAAUACCCGGACGGCAAAGAACAUACCACAGACGGCAAAGAUUGUCACGGCUGGCAAAUUUUCUGCGUCAGCCUACGAUGGCAUAGGACAUUCUUUGCCGUCUGCCCCCCCCCCCAAAGCGGACGGCAAAGCUCUUUGCCGUCAGCUUCCUUGAGGAGCAGUCGGCAAAGAGCUUGAGACGGCAGCCGAGAGGCGUUGCCUCCGUUAGGGGUUAACGGAGGCUCUUUGCCGUCUGCCUGCUGGUCAAUCUUUGCCGUCUGCCGUGUCCUCCCCUCCCCCUCUCUCCACUCCUGCCCCUCCUCUGUGCCCUCUUCUUUGCCGUCUGCCCCCCCAGCAGGCAGACGGCAAAGAGCCUAUAUGGCCAGCUGCUACUGCCCAGGAAGCACAGCUGGUUGCCAUGUGGCACCUUUGCCGUCUGCUGGCUGAUGGCAAAGGCCUUUGCCAUCAGCCAGCAGACGGCAAAGAGCCCAUAUUGUCACUGUUCGCAAUAAUAUAUAUAAUUCAUAGCACAUAUAUGAUAUAUAGUUCACAACACAUAUAUGAUAUACAUAUAAAGUUAACCAAUGUCAUUUGUUCAUCAAUGGACAUCCAUAUAUCAAAAGAAACCAACAUAUACAAAGUUUCAUCCAUAUAUAUAUACAUAUAGUUCCACAUAUAUUGUUCAUCAACACAUUGUUCAUCAACACAUACANNNNNNNNNNNNNNNNNNNNNNNNNNNNNNNNNNNNNNNNNNNNNNNNNNNNNNNNNNNNNNNNNNNNNNNNNNNNNNNNNNNNNNNNNNNNNNNNNNNNNNNNNNNNNNNNNNNNNNNNNNNNNNNNNNNNNNNNNNNNNNNNNNNNNNNNNNNNNNNNNNNNNNNNNNNNNNNNNNNNNNNNNNNNNNNNNNNNNNNNNNNNNNNNNNNNNNNNNNNNNNNNNNNNNNNNNNNNNNNNNNNNNNNNNNNNNNNNNNNNNNNNNNNNNNNNNNNNNNNNNNNNNNNNNNNNNNNNNNNNNNNNNNNNNNNNNNNNNNNNNNNNNNNNNNNNNNNNNNNNNNNNNNNNNNNNNNNNNNNNNNNNNNNNNNNNNNNNNNNNNNNNNNNNNNNNNNNNNNNNNNNNNNNNNNNNNNNNNNNNNNNNNNNNNNNNNNNNNNNNNNNNNNNNNNNNNNNNNNNNNNNNNNNNNNNNNNNNNNNNNNNNNNNNNNNNNNNNNNNNNNNNNNNNNNNNNNNNNNNNNNNNNNNNNNNNNNNNNNNNNNNNNNNNNNNNNNNNNNNNNNNNNNNNNNNNNNNNNNNNNNNNNNNNNNNNNNNNNNNNNNNNNNNNNNNNNNNNNNNNNNNNNNNNNNNNNNNNNNNNNNNNNNNNNNNNNNNNNNNNNNNNNNNNNNNNNNNNNNNNNNNNNNNNNNNNNNNNNNNNNNNNNNNNNNNNNNNNNNNNNNNNNNNNNNNNNNNNNNNNNNNNNNNNNNNNNNNNNNNNNNNNNNNNNNNNNNNNNNNNNNNNNNNNNNNNNNNNNNNNNNNNNNNNNNNNNNNNNNNNNNNNNNNNNNNNNNNNNNNNNNNNNNNNNNNNNNNNNNNNNNNNNNNNNNNNNNNNNNNNNNNNNNNNNNNNNNNNNNNNNNNNNNNNNNNNNNNNNNNNNNNNNNNNNNNNNNNNNNNNNNNNNNNNNNNNNNNNNNNNNNNNNNNNNNNNNNNNNNNNNNNNNNNNNNNNNNNNNNNNNNNNNNNNNNNNNNNNNNNNNNNNNNNNNNNNNNNNNNNNNNNNNNNNNNNNNNNNNNNNNNNNNNNNNNNNNNNNNNNNNNNNNNNNNNNNNNNNNNNNNNNNNNNNNNNNNNNNNNNNNNNNNNNNNNNNNNNNNNNNNNNNNNNNNNNNNNNNNNNNNNNNNNNNNNNNNNNNNNNNNNNNNNNNNNNNNNNNNNNNNNNNNNNNNNNNNNNNNNNNNNNNNNNNNNNNNNNNNNNNNNNNNNNNNNNNNNNNNNNNNNNNNNNNNNNNNNNNNNNNNNNNNNNNNNNNNNNNNNNNNNNNNNNNNNNNNNNNNNNNNNNNNNNNNNNNNNNNNNNNNNNNNNNNNNNNNNNNNNNNNNNNNNNNNNNNNNNNNNNNNNNNNNNNNNNNNNNNNNNNNNNNNNNNNNNNNNNNNNNNNNNNNNNNNNNNNNNNNNNNNNNNNNNNNNNNNNNNNNNNNNNNNNNNNNNNNNNNNNNNNNNNNNNNNNNNNNNNNNNNNNNNNNNNNNNNNNNNNNNNNNNNNNNNNNNNNNNNNNNNNNNNNNNNNNNNNNNNNNNNNNNNNNNNNNNNNNNNNNNNNNNNNNNNNNNNNNNNNNNNNNNNNNNNNNNNNNNNNNNNNNNNNNNNNNNNNNNNNNNNNNNNNNNNNNNNNNNNNNNNNNNNNNNNNNNNNNNNNNNNNNNNNNNNNNNNNNNNNNNNNNNNNNNNNNNNNNNNNNNNNNNNNNNNNNNNNNNNNNNNNNNNNNNNNNNNNNNNNNNNNNNNNNNNNNNNNNNNNNNNNNNNNNNNNNNNNNNNNNNNNNNNNNNNNNNNNNNNNNNNNNNNNNNNNNNNNNNNNNNNNNNNNNNNNNNNNNNNNNNNNNNNNNNNNNNNNNNNNNNNNNNNNNNNNNNNNNNNNNNNNNGAAGAAGAAAGAGGAGGAGCUUAUUAUGGCAUAUUUUCUAAUGUUUAUAAUCUUCAAGUGCAUUGCAUUCAUCUUGAUCUUGUGAUCGUCACGCACCUCGGCAACAUCCAACUCCAAUAUCAUCUUCUCCUCAUCAAGGCUUUUACGGACCUUCGACAACUUAUAUAUAAGCUAAUAAUAGAUCUUUUGCGUCUUUCGAUAUGCGAAGAGAAGUAAGAAGGUUUACUAUUGGGAUAACGAAGAUAUGACCAUAUUUCUGAUCAAUUCAACAGACGAGAUCGGAUAGUAGAAUAGAGAGAAGGAUCUUCUACUUUCUGAAAAUGAUAGAGAGUCAGGAGAGGGUCUAUGUUAAUAGUGCUCUUUAGAUAGGGAGAGGAAAGACGUAACUAGACCGUGAAAAUAAUAUAAUCUUUUACCGCUACAUCUGCUGGAGAAGAAAACUCAGCAAAGGAUAUUCCUAUCCUUUCUCUAGUUGAAGACUAAUCUGGAUAUUCCCUAACAUGCUUCACUCAAACGUCAAAAAUUCCUUCCAUGAAUCUAGGGACGGAAAACAACCUGUGACUUCGCCAAGUCUCCCUUUCUUUGGUCGAAGGCCUCGUCAAGAUCCUUCUAAACUAAUUGCUUUCGCUUGACUCUUCCAGGAGAAAAGUAUAAUAAGUGGUUGAAGGAAAGCUAAGUUUGGAGGAGAAACUUACCGUAGUGGUCAUCAAGGAGGAGAAACACCACGGUUGCUCGCGCCGGCUUCGUUUGGAGACGGUUGCCCUGGAGAAGGGUCGUGCGAUGCCGCUCGGGAGUUAUUCUGCAGAAAAGAUAUUUUGCAAUGUCUCAGUUAGCAUGAUGACACUCAAUUAUUAAUACUAGUUUAUAAUGAAACUCACCGUGCCAAUCGAAGAGAAGACGGGCAUCGGCGGAGGGACUUGACCGCUCUUCUCGCACAGACCCUGAAGAGUGGGUCGUAUUAGUUAGUAUUGAAACAGACAUUACACACAUGAUUUGGCUAAUGUGAAAAAAAACAUACCACAAAAAGCUCGUACAGGGCCCGUUGACCCGCCUCAUUCCGGGCCCUCUCCUCCUCAAGCAAUCGUGCCGUGCUCUGGUCCCUCUCAUCAAGAGCAGCCUGAAGAGCAGCAUGGCUUGCCAAUCUCUCUUUCUCAAGAGCAGCCUGGUUUGCCGCUCUCUCUUUCUGAAGAGCAGCCUGAAAAACCAUUCCUCGUUACCACAGUAAUGAUCUAUGGUGACACACAUAAUGAAAUGGAUGAAAGUGUUCUUAGUCCGUACAACUAACCUCGAUGGCAAGUUCGACUGGCCGUGGACGACGCGUUAUCUCAGGACAGUUGCUCGACUGGCGCGCCUUGAUCUCCGGAAGAGUGAGUGGACAACGUAUUAUCCCAUAUCCAAUGGCUAUCGAGCCAUGGGGCCUCCCGCCACCAGAUAUCAUCACCAGCUCUGGAUCCAAAGGUUCCUGGCUAGGGUUAAAGUCAUCCCCUUUCGUAGCCUUCCCCGCGUCCCUGUAUGCCAUGAGCAUCUGGUGGGAUGAUAUGUUGGUGAAGUUACUGGGAUCAUCCAGGUUAGACUCAGAGAAUGCCUUCGCCUUCUUGUACGAGGCAGUAUGGGCCAUGCCAUAAAUGUCGUACAAGUGUGGCAUCUCAGUCUUAUUGUCAUGCGCCUAAAAGAGAGGAACAAAAUAUUAGCAUAAGAAUGAAUUGCAUGAAUCAUGAAGCAAAUCACAUACCCAGUUUCGUCCAAACUGAUGUAAGUUGGCGCUGCCUUGAUGGUGUGGCACACCAACCAUUUGGCUACGCCGAUCCUUUGCAUUAUCGUGGACGGCUCGCCAGCUGCCUGUGCACCACUCAUCAACCAACGCCUCCCAACAAUCCAUCCUAUCCGCACACCAUCUCGGGGGCACCUGUAAGUUAUUAGAAAGAAUUUUCAGAGCUACGCCUAUGAAUGAAAUGAAGAAAAAUACGUAGAAGGACUUAAGAAUAGGUAAUUACCUUCAUGUAUUGCUCCUUCUUCAGAAACUUUCCGCGGCAAUCCUUCUUCUCCUUCUUAAUACCACGCGUGGCGUAGUAAUCUCGAAUAGCCUGCGGCCGAGCCUCGUGGCGCAAGUUCUGUAGUAAUCGCCUACACUCGACCUCGAGAACCCUGGCCGCCGCCUCCUCAUAUCCAUCCUCACACCUAUAGAAGGUCUGCAAUCAAACGUGAAAACACCGAUUAGUACAAUAAUGAGGUAUAUGCUUAAUUUUACAUUCUGUAAAAGGAUAAUUUACCCAAAAGCUCCUGAUCACCAUCUCGGCCCUCGUGUGGCACAAGACACCAUCUAUAAUCUCCUCCGGCGGGGCCUGCGCAGCCUGGUAGUGCUCCCAGGUAAAUCCUAGUGUAGGAACCUGACCCUCACCAGGCAACGUGACAAACCCCGGGAAAUUUGUCCGGCAAAGCACACCAAGGAAGGAGUUCGGCCUGCGGACUCCAAGAGGGUGUACCCAUCCCCUGCAGUAUGAUAAGGUGAGCGCAUUAGAUAUUUGAAGAAACUUGAAGGCAAAAGCUAAAAAAAGGGUAAAUGUACUUACCUAUCUCCUUCAGGUUUUAUCACCGGCCUCUGCUCGCGGGUAGCCGGGGCGACCGGGAGACGUGUACUACCACGCUUGUACACGGUAGCCGGGGCCCCGUCCACCUGCACAUCGCCCUCGCUAUCCGUAAGCUCAUCCCUGCCAUCCCCGCACCCUGAGCCACCCGGACCCUCGGUCCAAUCCGGCAACUCGGUACGAUCCGGCCAAGGCUCCCAUCCGGACCUCUCCACGUCGGGUGAAGCCUCCGGAACCGUAGUCUCCUCCGGCUGCUCCUGGGCCGAAUGCACCUCGACCCGAGGCUGCUCCUGGACCGGAGUCUCAUGGGACGACUGCCCGUGAACACCAGGCUCCUGGACCGGAGUCCCCGUAGCCUCCUCCGCAAACGGGUCGACCAUACUAGUCCUAUGCUCGGGUGAAUGAGCUGGUGGUGGUGGCGAGGACGGCUCAACAGUCCUCCUGGAUCUUCCGCGGCCACCACCUCUCCCUGUACACUUCCCCUUCUUCCCUACCCGACCAGCACCUCUACCAGCGGGCAAUGCCGCCGACGAAGAAGAACCCCCGGCUGGUGUCGAAAGACUGUCUGCCAAGGCUCUACGGAGAGAUAGGGGUGGAAGGGAAGUACCACCCCUCGUGCGGGGCGCCUGGGAAGAACCCGUCGAGCGCUCUGGACCCGCGCCCACCAUCUUUCAACACCUGCCAUGAUAAAGAUUAAAAGAAAUUAGUACAACAUAAAAAAAUUGAAUGACUGACAUGAAUAAUAAUACGUACAUGAAUAAUAAAUAUUAAAAUAUAUAGAUAUUAUCUUCUGUUGCCCGGCUCUCCAAGGAUUGCCGGAACCCUAGCCUCCGCCGCACCUAACCCUAGCCGCGACGGCGCCAUCUCACCGGCGCAUCCGCUCCAGCCCUCGCUCCCCUCCUGUCUGCCCUUACAACCUACGCCGGAGGCCCGGUAGGAACCCUAGUCCUACCAAUUUGGUAUCCAGAGAUUCCAGGCUGAUCAUGUCGCUCCCUCCACCACCGCCGCCGCUCAACACCACCACCGCCCCACUGCCGCAAACCACCACCACCGCCCCGCUGGGACCCAACCCCCGCCNNNNNNNNNNNNNNNNNNNNNNNNNNNNNNNNNNNNNNNNNNNNNNNNNNNNNNNNNNNNNNNNNNNNNNNNNNNNNNNNNNNNNNNNNNNNNNNNNNNNNNNNNNNNNNNNNNNNNNNNNNNNNNNNNNNNNNNNNNNNNNNNNNNNNNNNNNNNNNNNNNNNNNNNNNNNNNNNNNNNNNNNNNNNNNNNNNNNNNNNNNNNNNNNNNNNNNNNNNNNNNNNNNNNNNNNNNNNNNNNNNNNNNNNNNNNNNNNNNNNNNNNNNNNNNNNNNNNNNNNNNNNNNNNNNNNNNNNNNNNNNNNNNNNNNNNNNNNNNNNNNNNNNNNNNNNNNNNNNNNNNNNNNNNNNNNNNNNNNNNNNNNNNNNNNNNNNNNNNNNNNNNNNNNNNNNNNNNNNNNNNNNNNNNNNNNNNNNNNNNNNNNNNNNNNNNNNNNNNNNNNNNNNNNNNNNNNNNNNNNNNNNNNNNNNNNNNNNNNNNNNNNNNNNNNNNNNNNNNNNNNNNNNNNNNNNNNNNNNNNNNNNNNNNNNNNNNNNNNNNNNNNNNNNNNNNNNNNNNNNNNNNNNNNNNNNNNNNNNNNNNNNNNNNNNNNNNNNNNNNNNNNNNNNNNNNNNNNNNNNNNNNNNNNNNNNNNNNNNNNNNNNNNNNNNNNNNNNNNNNNNNNNNNNNNNNNNNNNNNNNNNNNNNNNNNNNNNNNNNNNNNNNNNNNNNNNNNNNNNNNNNNNNNNNNNNNNNNNNNNNNNNNNNNNNNNNNNNNNNNNNNNNNNNNNNNNNNNNNNNNNNNNNNNNNNNNNNNNNNNNNNNNNNNNNNNNNNNNNNNNNNNNNNNNNNNNNNNNNNNNNNNNNNNNNNNNNNNNNNNNNNNNNNNNNNNNNNNNNNNNNNNNNNNNNNNNNNNNNNNNNNNNNNNNNNNNNNNNNNNNNNNNNNNNNNNNNNNNNNNNNNNNNNNNNNNNNNNNNNNNNNNNNNNNNNNNNNNNNNNNNNNNNNNNNNNNNNNNNNNNNNNNNNNNNNNNNNNNNNNNNNNNNNNNNNNNNNNNNNNNNNNNNNNNNNNNNNNNNNNNNNNNNNNNNNNNNNNNNNNNNNNNNNNNNNNNNNNNNNNNNNNNNNNNNNNNNNNNNNNNNNNNNNNNNNNNNNNNNNNNNNNNNNNNNNNNNNNNNNNNNNNNNNNNNNNNNNNNNNNNNNNNNNNNNNNNNNNNNNNNNNNNNNNNNNNNNNNNNNNNNNNNNNNNNNNNNNNNNNNNNNNNNNNNNNNNNNNNNNNNNNNNNNNNNNNNNNNNNNNNNNNNNNNNNNNNNNNNNNNNNNNNNNNNNNNNNNNNNNNNNNNNNNNNNNNNNNNNNNNNNNNNNNNNNNNNNNNNNNNNNNNNNNNNNNNNNNNNNNNNNNNNNNNNNNNNNNNNNNNNNNNNNNNNNNNNNNNNNNNNNNNNNNNNNNNNNNNNNNNNNNNNNNNNNNNNNNNNNNNNNNNNNNNNNNNNNNNNNNNNNNNNNNNNNNNNNNNNNNNNNNNNNNNNNNNNNNNNNNNNNNNNNNNNNNNNNNNNNNNNNNNNNNNNNNNNNNNNNNNNNNNNNNNNNNNNNNNNNNNNNNNNNNNNNNNNNNNNNNNNNNNNNNNNNNNNNNNNNNNNNNNNNNNNNNNNNNNNNNNNNNNNNNNNNNNNNNNNNNNNNNNNNNNNNNNNNNNNNNNNNNNNNNNNNNNNNNNNNNNNNNNNNNNNNNNNNNNNNNNNNNNNNNNNNNNNNNNNNNNNNNNNNNNNNNNNNNNNNNNNNNNNNNNNNNNNNNNNNNNNNNNNNNNNNNNNNNNNNNNNNNNNNNNNNNNNNNNNNNNNNNNNNNNNNNNNNNNNNNNNNNNNNNNNNNNNNNNNNNNNNNNNNNNNNNNNNNNNNNNNNNNNNNNNNNNNNNNNNNNNNNNNNNNNNNNNNNNNNNNNNNNNNNNNNNNNNNNNNNNNNNNNNNNNNNNNNNNNNNNNNNNNNNNNNNNNNNNNNNNNNNNNNNNNNNNNNNNNNNNNNNNNNNNNNNNNNNNNNNNNNNNNNNNNNNNNNNNNNNNNNNNNNNNNNNNNNNNNNNNNNNNNNNNNNNNNNNNNNNNNNNNNNNNNNNNNNNNNNNNNNNNNNNNNNNNNNNNNNNNNNNNNNNNNNNNNNNNNNNNNNNNNNNNNNNNNNNNNNNNNNNNNNNNNNNNNNNNNNNNNNNNNNNNNNNNNNNNNNNNNNNNNNNNNNNNNNNNNNNNNNNNNNNNNNNNNNNNNNNNNNNNNNNNNNNNNNNNNNNNNNNNNNNNNNNNNNNNNNNNNNNNNNNNNNNNNNNNNNNNNNNNNNNNNNNNNNNNNNNNNNNNNNNNNNNNNNNNNNNNNNNNNNNNNNNNNNNNNNNNNNNNNNNNNNNNNNNNNNNNNNNNNNNNNNNNNNNNNNNNNNNNNNNNNNNNNNNNNNNNNNNNNNNNNNNNNNNNNNNNNNNNNNNNNNNNNNNNNNNNNNNNNNNNNNNNNNNNNNNNNNNNNNNNNNNNNNNNNNNNNNNNNNNNNNNNNNNNNNNNNNNNNNNNNNNNNNNNNNNNNNNNNNNNNNNNNNNNNNNNNNNNNNNNNNNNNNNNNNNNNNNNNNNNNNNNNNNNNNNNNNNNNNNNNNNNNNNNNNNNNNNNNNNNNNNNNNNNNNNNNNNNNNNNNNNNNNNNNNNNNNNNNNNNNNNNNNNNNNNNNNNNNNNNNNNNNNNNNNNNNNNNNNNNNNNNNNNNNNNNNNNNNNNNNNNNNNNNNNNNNNNNNNNNNNNNNNNNNNNNNNNNNNNNNNNNNNNNNNNNNNNNNNNNNNNNNNNNNNNNNNNNNNNNNNNNNNNNNNNNNNNNNNNNNNNNNNNNNNNNNNNNNNNNNNNNNNNNNNNNNNNNNNNNNNNNNNNNNNNNNNNNNNNNNNNNNNNNNNNNNNNNNNNNNNNNNNNNNNNNNNNNNNNNNNNNNNNNNNNNNNNNNNNNNNNNNNNNNNNNNNNNNNNNNNNNNNNNNNNNNNNNNNNNNNNNNNNNNNNNNNNNNNNNNNNNNNNNNNNNNNNNNNNNNNNNNNNNNNNNNNNNNNNNNNNNNNNNNNNNNNNNNNNNNNNNNNNNNNNNNNNNNNNNNNNNNNNNNNNNNNNNNNNNNNNNNNNNNNNNNNNNNNNNNNNNNNNNNNNNNNNNNNNNNNNNNNNNNNNNNNNNNNNNNNNNNNNNNNNNNNNNNNNNNNNNNNNNNNNNNNNNNNNNNNNNNNNNNNNNNNNNNNNNNNNNNNNNNNNNNNNNNNNNNNNNNNNNNNNNNNNNNNNNNNNNNNNNNNNNNNNNNNNNNNNNNNNNNNNNNNNNNNNNNNNNNNNNNNNNNNNNNNNNNNNNNNNNNNNNNNNNNNNNNNNNNNNNNNNNNNNNNNNNNNNNNNNNNNNNNNNNNNNNNNNNNNNNNNNNNNNNNNNNNNNNNNNNNNNNNNNNNNNNNNNNNNNNNNNNNNNNNNNNNNNNNNNNNNNNNNNNNNNNNNNNNNNNNNNNNNNNNNNNNNNNNNNNNNNNNNNNNNNNNNNNNNNNNNNNNNNNNNNNNNNNNNNNNNNNNNNNNNNNNNNNNNNNNNNNNNNNNNNNNNNNNNNNNNNNNNNNNNNNNNNNNNNNNNNNNNNNNNNNNNNNNNNNNNNNNNNNNNNNNNNNNNNNNNNNNNNNNNNNNNNNNNNNNNNNNNNNNNNNNNNNNNNNNNNNNNNNUCAGAGAUGUGUAUAAGGGACAGGGGCACUCCCUGGCCGGUGUGGCCGGCCACCACCGCGCCGCUGGGGGGGCUGCCCCAACAGUCGCUACCGGCCACCACGGCGCAGGCGUCGGGGGUCGGGGUAGGGGGUCGGGGGUCGAGGGUGAGUGUUGUCGGGGGUCGGGGGUCGGGGGUCGAGGUUACCUAUAAAACUUUCUAUGUUACCCAUAAAACUUUCUAGGUUACCUAUAAAACUUUCUAUGUUACCUAUAAAACUUUCCAGGUUACCUAUACUACUUUAUAAAACUUUCUAGGUUCCAUAAAAAAAUAUUUCAUGCCGGGGUGUCGUCGAGAUGUCGUGUCGGGGCGUCGUGUCGGGGUUUCGGGGCAUCGUGUCGGGUGUCAGGGGUGUCGUCGAGAUGUCGUGUCGGGGCGUCGUGUCGGGGUUUCGGGGCAUCGUGACGGGUGUCAGGGGUGUCGUCGAGAUGUCGUGUCGGUGCGACAACUACUAUUGCGAGCUGUUGUAAUAUCCUCAACGUUGUGGCUAGUGCAAGCAUAGGCGGCGACCGGAGGGCUCUACACGGUCAACUACAAACCUAACAACUAACCUAACACACAGUAGGUAAUUAACAACUAACCUAACAACUAACCUAGCUCGAGGGGUAAUACCACUAACAACUAACCUAAUUACCACUAACAACUAACAAGUAACCUAACUAACCUAAUUACCAGUACGUAACCACUAACAACUAACCUAACUAACCUAACUAACAAUAGGUAAUUAACAACUAACCUAACUAACCUAAUUAAUGAAUUAAACGAAAAAAGGAAAAAAGGACUCACCGAGGAGGAGGAGGGCCGCAGGAGGGGGGGGCGCAGGGCGGCGGUGGGGUGUGUAGGUGGGGAGGNNNNNNNNNNNNNNNNNNNNNNNNNNNNNNNNNNNNNNNNNNNNNNNNNNNNNNNNNNNNNNNNNNNNNNNNNNNNNNNNNNNNNNNNNNNNNNNNNNNNNNNNNNNNNNNNNNNNNNNNNNNNNNNNNNNNNNNNNNNNNNNNNNNNNNNNNNNNNNNNNNNNNNNNNNNNNNNNNNNNNNNNNNNNNNNNNNNNNNNNNNNNNNNNNNNNNNNNNNNNNNNNNNNNNNNNNNNNNNNNNNNNNNNNNNNNNNNNNNNNNNNNNNNNNNNNNNNNNNNNNNNNNNNNNNNNNNNNNNNNNNNNNNNNNNNNNGGCGCAGGGCGUGCGUGGGAGAGAGAGAGAGCGCGUGGGAGAGAGAGAGUGCGUGGGAGAGAGAGAGAGAGUGCGUGGGAGAGAGGAGAGAGGUAGGCGCCGUUAACGCUUCCGAGUCGUGGGGCUACGCACUUCCGUGCCAGUUCCUGCGGCGUUCUUCUUCUCCAGCCAUCGACCCCGGUGUCGAUCUUCCCCCCGUCACGCGCCGCAACAAGCGAUCCGGUCGUUCGCAGCUCCAGUGUUGGGUGCGACACGCCCUAGCGCGACAAAACAUGUCCUCUUAAGUGGCAGUGCUUGAAUCGGUUGUGGUCCCGCGGUCAUCCCAGUGCUUGGAGUCAGUUCUGACUGAACUACCUUCCGAGUAUCAGGGUCACGGGCCUGCAGCCGAAGUACUCAUGGCGGAUUCCCAUGAAAGUCCCUCCGGACUGGUCGGAACAAGGGUGAGAUCGGGGAAUCAUCCGGCGCUCGUCGUCAGCACCCUCGUUCUUCCGGUCGAUGCGCUCGCCAGAGCAACGUCGAGGUGCUCCGCACACCCAUCCUCAACUUAGCUGCAGCCGCCAGGAUCGCUGACUCUCUCCAGCCGACUGAUUCGGAGGCUGGUAGAGGAAUCGAGUAGAUCCGUGCCUUGUUACAUACGGCGCAGCAGCAAAACUCGGUGGUCUCCCAAUCGCACAACAAGAUACACAACAGUUCCGUUCAAGCGAACACGGGUGAGUUUUCAGUCCCGGCUCUCACCAGCAUCGCAGAGGGGGCAGCCUCUAGAACGAUCGUUCCAGGGACCAGAGUCGGAAUCCGCUUUCCAUUCGGUCUCAUCCCGAAGAUCGUCGCCGUUCGCGUACUCCUCCACGGAGUGGGCCUUACCGACCCCGGCAUUACGAUGGUCAUCGUUCGGGCGGUGACGCGCAUGAUCAAAGGCCUGAUGCAAGAGGGUAUAUCACUCAGAAGAAGGUUGAUAGAAGCUGAGCCACCGCGAUGGUCAUGAUAGAGAUCAUCCGAGUGGAAGCAGGACCGUUGUUUCUGGUCCCGAGUGUUUCAGUCGGGCAAUUCGCUCGGCUGACAUCCCUCCCAACUUCCGAUUGGCGACGGGAAUCAGCAAAUUCACAGGAGAGUCCAAACCAGAAACUUGGUUAGACGACUACAGAGUGGCGCUCUAGAUCGGUGGUGGAGAUGACCAUGUCGCCAUGAAACAUCUCCCGCUGAUGCUCGACGGUUCGGCUCGAGCUUGGCUAAACCAGUUAGCUCCAUCAAGCAUUUACAGUUGGGCAUAUCUGUCCCGAGUCUUCAUCAGGACCUUCGAGGGUACGUGCAAACGCCCUGCUGGUCUCACAGAGCUUCAGCACUGUGUCCAGAAGCAAAACGAUCCCUUGCGCGAUUUCAUCCAGCGCUGGACAACCCUGUACCACACGGUGGAGAAUGUUACUGAACACCAAGCAGUCUGCGCCUUCAAGGCAGGCGUUCGGUACAGAGAUCUAUACCUGAAGUUUGGUCGGACAUGCGACAUCUCCAUGAGCAAGAUGAUGGAGAUAGCCGCGCGCUAUGCGAGUGGCGAAGAGGAGGACCGCAUACAUAGCGGCAAGCAUAAGUCAGUCGCGGACGGAGAUGGGAGCAGCAGUCGGAAGUAGAAACAGAAAGCCCAAUCCACUCCGCAAGCAGAGGUGGCAGUCGUUACAAACGCUAAGUCCAAAGGCAAGGGGAAACCACAGUACACCCCCAAGAAGAAACAGUCAGGAAAUUCCAUCCUAGAUCAACCGAGGCCGAUCCACACGAAGACGGAUGAAGAAGGCAAUGUCAUAUUGCCGAAACAUACCACUCGGCAGUGUCGCCUCCUGAUCCAAGGAUUCGGUGAAGGACAGCCGAGUGAGAAAGACUCUGAGCAAGAUGAUGAGGACAAGGGGGAUCCGUUCCCUCAAGUCCAUGCAACGUUAAUGAUUUUUGCUGAUGUAGAAAGCAAAAGUCGACUGAAGCUGGUCAACAGGGAGGUAAACAUGGCAACCACAUCCACUCCCACGUUCCUCAAGUGGUCACAGACUGCAAUCACUUUUGAUCAGUCAGACCACCCAGCACACGUAUCCACCCCAGGGAGGCAAGCUCUGGUCGUCGACCCGGUGGUGGAAGGAGUUAGGCUGCGCAAAGUCCUCAUGGACGGCGGCAGCGGCUUGAAUAUCAUGUACGCCAAUACUCUCAAGGGAAUGGGCAUUCUGAUGUCCAGACUUAGCGAGAGCAGUAUGCAAUUCCAUGGAGUCGUCCCAGGAAGAAAGGCCAAGUCACUCGACCAGAUUGCGUUGGAUGUCGUUUUCGGCUCUUACCAGAACUUCCGCAAAGAGAAAUUAACAUUCGAGGUGGUAGACUUCCAGAGUGCAUACCAUGCCAUUCUGGGCCGUCCGACAUACGUACGUUUCAUGGCCCGUCCAUGUUACGUAUAUUUGAAGCUGAAGAUGCCUGGUCCCAAAGGCGUGAUUACUAUCACAGGCAAUCGGCAGCGGGCCGAGGAGUGCCUGCAGCAGGGGUCGAGAAUGGCAGACCAUCAGAUAGCUGUACUCGAGUUGGAUGAGUACAAGAAGAUUGCCGACCCCGCCGACCUGAUGCGUUCAAAGAAGCCAGCUUCCGAGUCCGCAUUCCAGUCGGCGAGAGACACGAAGAAAGUAAGCAUCCACCCGGCGGAUGCCACCGCCGCCCCAACAAACAUCUCCACCACCCUUGAUCCAAAAUAGGAAGACGAGCUCAUCCAAUUCCUCCGUGAGAACUGGGAAAUUUUUGCAUGGAAACCUGCUGACAUGCCAGGUGUACCGAGGGAGUUGGCUGAGCACCAAUUGCAUGUGGAUCCUACCGCUCGGCCCGUCUGAGAACACCUGCGUCGGUCCGCCGCGCACAAGAGAAAAGCAAUCGGAGAGGAGGUAGCUAAACUUCUGGCAGCCAACUUCAUUCGCGAGGUACACCACUCCGAGUGCCUCGCUAAUGUUGUCAUGGUACCCAAGAAGGACAAGUCUCUCCCUAUGUGCAUCGCUUUCAAGCACCUUAAUAAGGUCUGUCCGAAAGACCAAUUGAUCAAAUUGUUGAUUCGACUUCGGGUUCCAAGCGUUUAUCCUUCCUUGAUGCCUAUUCGGGCUAUCAUCAGAUCCGUCUGUAUGGUCCAGAUGAAUUAAAAACAUCUUUCAUCACCCCAUUCGGGUGCUUCUGUUACAUCACUAUGCCAUUCGGUUUGAAAAAUGCAGGAGCAACUUUUAUGCGAAUGAUCCAAAAAUGCCUCCUAGACCAGAUUAGUCGAAAUGUGGAGGCAUAUAUGGACGAUAUCGUAGUCAAGUCACGCAAAGGUUCCGACCUGCUGACUGACUUGGCAGAAACAUUCGCCAACCUACAUAGGUACGAUAUCAAGCUCAACCUAGGCAAGUGUUCAUUCGGCGUUCCCAGCGGGAAGUCACUCGGUUUCUUUGUUUCUGAACUUGGGAUCGAUGUCAACCCCGAAAAGAUCGGGACCAUUGUUUGAAUGGAGCGGUCGGUAAGAGUACAUGAUGUACAAAAGCUCACAGGUUGCCUAGCGGCUUUGAGCAGGUUUAUCGCUCGACUCGGCGAGAAGGCGUUACCUCUGUACCGACUCAUGAAGAAGUCGGAUACCUUCGAGUGGACAGACGAAGCCCAAACCGCAUUCGACGACCUCAAAGCCCUGCUUUCCACCCAGCCGGUUCUUACAACCCGCUCAGUAAAGAACCCCUUCUUCUAUACAUCGCGGCUACAAAUCAAUUCGUCAGCACCGUUCUGACAGUCGAACGCGAAGAAGAAGGCAAAGCGUACAGGGUUCAGCGGCCAGUAUAUUAUGUUUCCGAAGUCCUGACUCCUUCCAAGCAGAGGUAUCCCCAUUAUCAGAAGCUUAUUUAUGGGAUCUACAUGACUGCAAAGAAGGUGGCUCAUUAUUUCCAAGACCACUCGGCAUCCGUCAUAUCUGAUGCUCCGUUGUCGGAAAUUCUCCACAAUCGGGAUGCAUCAGGCCGAGUGGCAAAGUGGGCAAUGGAGAUGCUAUACUGCGACAUCAAGUUCGAAGCCAAGAAAGCUAUAAAGUCUCAAGCUCUUGCUGACUUCAUAGCAGAAUGGGUAGAACAACAGCAACCGACUCACAUCUACUCGACUCAUUGGACCAUGUUCUCCAAUGGGUCCAAGAUGUUGAAUGGCUCCGGCGCCGGCGUAGUGCUCAUGUCCCCGAAAGGUGAUAAACUCAAUUAUGUGUUGCAGAUCCAUUUUGAUUCUUCCAACAACGAAGUAGAGUACGAAGCUCUCCUUUACGGGUUGCAUGGCCAUCACACUCGGCGUCCGUCGCCUGAUGGUCUAUGGCGACUCAGAUCUAGUGGUUAAUCAAGUAAUGAAGGAGUGGGAUGUAAGGAACCCCACCAUGACUGCAUAUUGCAAUGCAAUAAGAAAGCUCGAAAAGAAGUUCGAAGGUCUGGAACUUCACCAUGUUCCCCGACUGAAAAACCAAGCAGCAGAUGAAUUGGCAAAACUUGGAUCCACACGGAGACCUGUCCCGAGUGAUGUCAGCCUCGAGCACCUACACCUCGCCUCGGUAAAAGAAGAUUAUUUUACACAGGAACCGGUGCAACCGAAGAGCUCAACAGAUUAGACUGAAGCCGAGGUUCCAGCUGUGGUUGACCUGAUCAUGGAGAUUCUGGAUAUCAUUCCCGAAUGGACUGUGCCAUUCAUUGUGUACAUCCUGAGGCAAGAGUUACCGGAAGACGAGGUCCAAGCGAGGCAGAUCGUUCACAGGUCGAAGUCCUUAACCAUCGUUGAUGACCAGUUAUACAGAGAAAGUGUUUCAGGCGUCCUUCAGCGGUGUAUCUCUCCUGAGGAGGGUCGGUUAAUUUUGGAAGAAAUUCACUCGGGAACCUGCGGCCAUCAUGCCUCCUGAAGGGUAAUCGUCGCCAAAGCAUUCAAAGCUGGUUUCUUCUGGUUGCAGGCGAAUGAAAUGGCAAAAGAUAUAGUCGACCAUUGCGAAGGUUGUCAGUUCUAUUCAAACAAGUCCCACAAGCCAAUGUCCGCGCUGAAGACAAUUCUCCUUUCUUGGCCAUUCGCCGUGUGGGGAUUAGAUACAGUCGGACCAUUCAGAACAGGCCAAGGAGGAUUCACCCAUCUGCUGGUAGCAGUCGACAAGUUUACCAAGUGGAUUGAAGCCAAGCCAGUCAAGAAGCUUGAUGCCCUUACGGCCAUCAAAUUUAUCACAGACAUCAUCGCCAAAUAGAGGGUUCCACACAACAUAAUCACCGACAAUGGCAUAAACUUUAACUCGGACGAGUUCAAAGGUUUUUGCGCAGGCCAAGGUAUGCGAGUGGAUUUUGCAUCCAUUGCGCACCCCCAAACAAAUGGACCAGCGGAGCGGGCGAAUGGACUCAUUCUUCAAGGGUUGAAGCCUCAACUCCUGCGGGAAGUUGGACAUGCCGCCGGCGCAUGGGUCACCGAGCUGCCUUUGGUGCUGUGGGGCCUCCGAACAACUCCGAAUAGAUCGAUAGGACGAUCCCCGUUUUUCCUCGUUUAUGGAGCAGAGGCAGUCCUUCCGAGUGACUUGCAUAACAACUCUCCACGAGUCGAACUCUUCUCCGAAGCCGAAGCAGAGCAAGCCAGGCAAGACGGACUAGACCUUUUAGAAGAGGAGCACGAGAUGGCAUUGAUCCGUUCAACAAUUUAUCAGCAAGAUCUGCGGCGAUUUCAUGCAUGGCACGCCAGGAGCCGCACGUUCCAAGCAGGCCACCUGGUGCUCCGAGUGGAUCAACAGAGACCACACAAGUUGGCUCCCGCCUGGGAAGGAUUGUUCAUCAUUUCUAAGGUGCUGAACAACAGAGCGUAUCGACUCUACAACCUCGACAGGGAGACGGACGAGCCGCGAGCAUGGAAUGGAGAUCUACUGAAGCGCUUCUACACAUAACCACCGACAGAGACAAUGUAAAGAACAAAUGUCAUCGAAGUAAUACAAAGCGGUUUAAUUUCUUGCCGAUUCAAAAUUCUUGCGCGUUUGCAGACUCCGGUCUAAAAAACUAACUCCGAGUGUGCACCAAAAGUCACACUCGGAGACUUAGCUGCGACUCAGAUUCGCCUAAGUAAACAACUCGCUCCGAGUGUGCACCAAAAGGCACACUCGGGGACUUAGCUGCGACAGAAGGUCGCCUAAGUAAACAACUCGCUUCGAGUGUGCACCAAAAGUCACACUUGGGGACUUAGCUACGACCCAGAGUCGCCUAAGUAAACAACUUGCUCCGAGUGUGCACCAAAAGUCACACUCGAGGACUUAGCUGCGACCCAGAGUCGCCUAAGUAAACAACUCGCUCCGAGUGUGCACCAAAAGUCACACUCGGGGACUUAGCCGCGACCCAGAGUCGCCUAAGUAAACAACUUGCUCCGAGUGUGCACCAAAAGUCACACCCGGGGACUUAGCUGCGACCCAGAGUCGCCUAAGUAAACAACUUGCUCCGAGUGUGCACCAAAAGUCACACUCGGGGACUUAGCUGCGACCCAGAGUCGCCUAAGUAAACAACUCGCGCCGAGUGUGCACCAGAAGUCACACUCGGGGACUUAGCUGCGACCCAGAGUCGCCUAAGUAAACAACUUGCUUCGAGUGUGUACCAAAAGUCACACUCGGGGACUUAGCUGUGACCCAGAGUCGCCUAAGUAAACAACUCGCUCCGAGUGUGCACCAAAAGUCACAAUCGGGGACUUAGCUGCGACCCAGAGUCGCCUAAGUAAACAACUUGCUCCGAGUGUGCACGAAAAGUCACACUCGGGAACUUAGCUGCGACCCAGAGUCGCCUAAGUAAACAACUCGCUCCGAGUGAGCACCAAAAGUCACACUCGGGGACUUAGCUGCGACCCAGAGUCGCCUAAGUAAACAACUCGCUCCGAGUGUGCACCAAAAGUCACACUCGGGGACUUAGCUGCGACCCAGAGUCGCCUUAGUAAACAACUUGCUCCGAGUGUGCACCAAAAGUCACACUCGGGGACUUAGCUGCGACCCAGAGUCGCCUAAGUAAACAACUUGCUCCGAGUGUGCACCAAAAGUCACACUCGGGGACUUAGCUGCGACCCAGAGUCGCCUAAGUAAACAACUUGCUCCGAGUGUGCACCAAAAGUCACACUCGGCGACUUAGCUGCGACCCAGAGUCGCCUAAGUAAACAACUUGCUCCGAGUGUGCACCAAAAGUCACACUCGGAGACUUAGCUGCGACCCAGAGUCGCCUAAGUAAACAACUUGCUCCGAGUAUGCACCAAAAGUCACACUCGGGGACUUAGUUGCGGCCCAGAGUCGCCUAAGUAAACAACUAACUCCGAGUGUGCACCAAAAGUCACACUCGGGGACUUAGCUCCAAACCAGAGUUGCCUAAGUAAAGAGCUUCCUCCGAGUGGGUACACAAGUUACACUUGGAGGCUUAGCUGAGUCGCCUAAACAAAAACCACAAGCCAAAAUUGUGUCAAAAAAAACUCAUCAAAAGAAGAGCAAAAGAUCCGGUUCGGAUUCAAAUGAGUUCAACGAUCAGUCGGCUCAGUGUGAAUCAAGUUUAUCCACACUGAGCCACGAAUGUACCGGCCAACAGCAGUGGCCAAAGUUUAAUACAAACUCCACUCGGCAUACCGAGGUAAAUGCGCGUUCAGCAUAAAGUCAAUCAAGCAUCGCCGGGGCUGGCAGGCUCCACGAAGGUGUCGAGGUCGAUUCCAUCUGCAAUCCGAGUGGCCGUGUCGAGGAAGGUCUCCAUGAAGUCUUCAAAUCGAAGCUUCUUGGUGUUGGCGACCUGCAACGUCUUUAGCUUGUCUUCACGGGCUUCCUUGCAAUGCACUCGGACUAGAGACAUCGCCAUGUCCGCGCCACACCGAGCAGCAGAUUUCUUCCAUGCCUGCACUCUGCUUGGAACAUCCUCCAGUCGAGUCAUCGACCCCUCUAUCUCAUUCCGGCAGUCAUCUUCAGGCCACAGCUCUUUGUCAAUUCGGCCGACAACUUCUCUCAGGCGACCAAUGAAAGGAACCACCUUGUUAAGGCGGGAAUUCACUCGGAACAUGUCCCGGUUAGCUUCAUCACCGAGUGGAAUAUUCGGUUGCCCAAGCGCCCGUUCAAUUUUGGCGGUCUCGGCUUCAAUGUCCCGACAGAAAUCUGCAAAGAAAAGACAGGGAGAAAAUAAGCGUGGAGUGAACUCCAAAGUCAAAGAGCACUCGGCAAGCAACUUACCACCAAGCAGUGCGACCAUCUUCUUCGCCGAGUCGCCAACGUAUUUCUCCUGCGCUUUGCACCGAGCGUUCAUUGACUUGAGCUCGCCCACCCAUUCAGAUCUCUCCUUCUUCUUAUUUUCUAACUCGGCUAACAGUGCCUUGUUAGUCUCCUGAGAUUCCUCCAAAGAUUUUUCUCGUUCAGCGAGAGCCUUCUUCAUGCCAGCCAUAUCGUUCGCAGCUACCUCCAAGUCGGCAGCAAGUUGAGUCUUCUCGGCCAUCAGAGCGGUAUAGGCCGAUCCCACUUCACAAGUCUUCUGUCAAAGAGACACAAAGGGAGGAUCAGCCAGAUUCAACAAGGAAAAAGUCUCGACAGAUAUGACAAAGCAAUCAAAACUUAAGAUUCUUCAGACCCCUGCCGAUGCAAGCAACCGACAGCGGUCUCGGGGAGUACACCCAGUGGGUUCACUGAGAGUGACCCCACUGGUAUGAAGCUCGAACAGGUCGGUCCCAUUGAGCUCCAUAGCAAACCAACAACACUAUGAGACUACUAUUACUCGACCCGAGUAACACUACUGUCGAGGACUACACCAAGUGGGUGCACUCGGCGUGCCCCCACUGGUACCAUUCGGGCAGAUCAGUUCUGAUCUGUAGAGAUUAUGGAAAAUACAUAUAAAGACAACUGCCGGUGCAAACACUCGGCAGAAGUCUCGGGGACUACACCCACUGGGUUCACUCGGAGUGAACCCACUGGAAAAUUAACCUACUAUAUCCGAGUAUCUCGCCAAAACCCCCAGUGAGCACCAAGAGGAAUGUAAACACUUACUAGCGCACUUACUCGGAUAUCAUCCCGAAGCUCCAAGAUCUUCUUGUACAGGGACGCAACAGAGUCGUAUGCUCCCUUGGUUUCGCCCACCAUCAGCUCCACUUGUACCAUGGCAUCCUUGGCGGCUCCUACUUGAUCUUCCGAGAGGCGUCGGGCAUCAUAGUGAGCAGUCGAUGGACCCGGCGUGGCAGACGGCGCCCUAGGCAUCCCGAGCUCCCUAGGCAUCCCGAGCUCUGCUCCAGUCGGUUCCGCCGUGAAGGCCACCGUCUCAGUCAGUGGCACGCUCAUGGCGCGGCUGGCAGCAGGUUGGAUAACCCCAGGGACAGGCGCCAAAGCUAGUUCCGACCCCCUUUGGUCGUCGUCGUCCAGAUGGAUCACCUCCGAAGGAAGCCCGACUGAACAAAAUAAAAAUACAGAAAAAUAUCAAGAUCAAAGACAACACUCACGAAACAGUAAUACAACUCUUGGAGUCGUGACAACGUACCUUGCUGGGACGUGGCGGCGUUAUCAGUGUCGAUGGGAUCGUCACCCUGACGCGGCAGAGAGGUGGCGGAGGUAGCAUCUCUGUUGAGUGAAAUCCAUUCGACAGGUAAACAUGAAUUCCCAAAAAGAAGGGUCCAAUCGGAUACUGAAGGAAGAUGGAAGAGCAAAGAUACUUACGCUGAGGCGACCGGAACAGCGAUCCUCAUCCGGGGCAAAGCUUUCCGAGGUUUAGACCCGCUGGGUUUAGCCACCUUGGACGGCUGAUCCACGGGCUCGACAGAAGAACCCCUGGUUCUCUUCACACUCCGAGCACUCGGGGCCACGGGAGGAGCUGGCGGAAUAGCGGGGUCAUGACGGUGCUUGGUUCGGCGUUCUGGUGGUGACGGUGACGAGCUCUGCUCUUCACUCUCCUCCUCCUCCUCUUCUGUUUCCUCCUCCGUCUCCCUACUGUCAGAGACGUACAAGGCACUACCCGCGCUACCCUCCAUGCUGCCUUCUUCUUCCUUGACCGGAUCCCCACCUAAGACUGCAGAAUGCCAGUUCGUCCACUCCUGCACAAAACACAGUCGGCGACGUCAGUCGGCGAGACAAGAAAAGCAAUAAAACUGAGAAGGUUAGAAGCACUCGACAAAAUGUACUCACCUCAUUCGGAGGAGGAUUUUGGGUGCAGAAGGCCUUGACCCGCCAAGCUCCCACAGGGUUAUCACAUGUGCCCGUGAUGCUGCGGACCCACGCACCCACGGUCUCCUCGCUCACGUCUUCAGGAUGGGACCGAGUGGUAUCCGAAGGCCCCGUGUAAUUCCACAUUGCGUGGUCUCGGGCCUGGAGCGGCUGGAUGCAUCGAACCAGAAAAGUCUCCAACAGGUCCAUGCCGGUGACUCCGUUCCGGACGAUAGUUACCAACGCGUCGAUCAAAGGCUGGAUCUGGGUUUUUUCUCCCUUAGAGAGCGCUAGCUUCCUGGGAGGGCCCGGACGAUUGCCAGUUCCUAACCGACUCGGAUAGCUGAAGGGAGGGAUAACUACUUUCCGUUUUCUUCUGAAAUCCUAAAUCCCCGCAGAGCUGGAAGAUGUGUGUCUUAUCAUCAGACUGGCUAAGUUUCUUAACCAUUUGACAUCUAGCAGAGAAAACAUAUUUGAAGAGCCCCUAGUGGGGAGGACAUCCUAUGAAACACUCGCAGAGGGUGAUGAAUGCGGAAAGAUGAGCUAUCGCAUUCGGCGGAAAGUGAUGGAGCUGCGCCCCGAAGUAGUUCAUAAUACCUCGGAAGAAAGGAUGGGGAGGCAGGGAGAAACCUCUGGCCACGUGGGUGAGCAGCAGGACGCGCUCCCCCUCCCUCGGCGCCGUCUCCAUCUCGCCUUCCGGCAGCCUCCAAGACUUAUUGACGACCAUGUUGUGCUCCACUAGCUCCAGCACGUCGGUCUCCCUCACCGUGGAGGGGAGGAAGUCCCCCUGGAUCCAGCCCACCGGCAACGCCCGCUUCCGCUACUGAGUGGAGGGCGCCCCCAUCUUCUUCUUCUUCACCUCGAGCUUGCUGGUCUGCACCUUCGUCAUGGCGGGGGCGACGGAUCCGCGCAUGAGGAGGGGAAGGGGGUGGCUAGAGGUGUGCAGGGAGUUGCCGGGGGGGGCGAGAUAAAUGGGAGGAAGACAAGGAGCGCAACAGGAAGGUCCGCCAGGAAGGCUUUAAAAGGCCUCCGACUGAGUCACCUACAUGUGGACCCAAGAUCUUAUCCUCCCAACCGGCCGCUGCAAGAUUAGUGGAGAAGAUCACGACGCGGUAAUCGAGGAGGCGAAAUCUACUCGAUGGCGAUGACGUCAUCCCCGCUGAGCGCGCGGCAACUGAAAUUUGAGAAUCCCGGAAAAUCCGGUGCUGUCAGUAUGACCGGUCACGUCGAAAGAUUCCGCGGAAGCAAUCGGUCCCUCACGGUUCGUUUCGCUUGCAUAUUCACUCGGAUCACUAGCCACAAAGAUAAAAUGGAUCAAGGCAGACAACGCUAAGAUCACCUCCAUACCAGUCGGCUCCAAACUCCGGACAUCACUUCAUCGUUCCAGCCCCGAUCCAUUCGGGGACUAAUGAUGGGGUUAUAGUCCCAGGGUAGGGUCAUAGGUCUGCCCUAUAGGUCCUACCCAAGGACUACCCUUCAUAGGAGACAAGGCCCUUAGACAGUUCCGACUGAACUAAAGAUGCCCCCAUCAUCCAGUCGGCGACGAUCCACUCGGAGCAUAUCUAACGUAUCGACUGGAAUCCACUCUGUACAUCGUAACCUCCCAGGAGGGCAACGGUCAUACGUUUUCAUACACCAUAACUAGCAUUUAAGGCUUACGUUACCAGUAACGCCAACGUUUAAUCGCCACUACUCCACCCUUGUCCACCGAACCAGUAUGAAGGGCAGCGCACUCUAUAUAAGCCGCCCUUCACCACCGGUACAGGGUUUGGCACUUGCUGUAAUCCCUCAAUACACUCGACACAAAGCUCCCAAGAGCACUGAGACGUAGGGCUUUUACCUCCACCAUAGAGGGGCCUGAACUCAUACAUCCUCGCCGUAGCAAAGGCUCUGCCCAUAUACUUUCGUACCCUGUACUUCUACUGUCAGACUUAUACCCACGAUAGCUCGACUAUAUGAUUUUGUAGGGAUAACUGUCAAUGGCCUUCUUAUUUUGAAAUUUCAUGAUUACCUUGCUAGUUUGCUUGAAGUAUUAUUGUUUUCAUGUUAAUAGCAAACUAUUGUUUCAAAUCUUAUGGAUUUGAACAUUCAUGUCACGUGAAAGAAGUUGCAAAGGACAACUAUGCUAGGUAACAUUCCACAUCAAAAAUUCAUUCUUUAUCACUUCCCUACUCGAGGACGAGCAGGAGUUAAGCUUGGGGAUGCUUGAUACGUCUCCAACGUAUCUAUAAUUUUUUAUGGUUUCAUGUUAUUAUCUUGUCAAACUUUGGAUGUUUUGCAUGCCUUUUAUAUAUUUUUUGGGACCAACUUAUUAACUCAGUGCCAAGUGCCAGUUCAUGUUUUUUCCAUGUUUUUGACCCCUUUCAGAGGAGAUUUUGAAACAGAGUCCAAACGGAAGAAAACCCCCGAAAAGAUUUUUUCCGUAACGGAAGAAGAUCGGGAAGCUUGAGAGCCAAGGCAGGGGGGUCUCAGGGGCCCCACAAGCCCCCACCCCGCGGCGAGGGGGGAGUCCGCGGCCCAGAGGCUUGUGGGCCCCCUCGAAUCCCUCUGCCCUAGGGGUUGCGCCUAUAUAUUCCCUAAAAAUCCCAAAAAAAUCAGGAGAUCAUCGAAAGUACUUUUCCGCCGCCGCAAGCUUCUGUCUCCGCAAGAUCCCAUGUGCGGCACAUUCUGGUGCCCUGCUGGAGGGGGGAUUCAGACAUAGAGGGCUUCUUCAUCAACACAAUGACCUCUCCGAUGAUGCGUGAGUAGCUCACCAUAGACCUACGGGUCCAUAGCUAGUAACUAGAUGUCUUCUUCUCUCUCUUGGAUCUUCAAUACAAAGUUCUCCAUGAUCUUCAUGGAGAUCUGUCCGAUGUAAUCUUCUUUUGCGGUGUGUUUGUCGAGAUCCUAUGAAUUGUGGAUUUAUGAUCAUAUUAUCUAUGAAUCUUAUUUGAGUUUCUUCUGAUCUCUCUUAUGCAUGAUUUCAUAUCCUUGUAAUUCUCUUCGAGUUGUGGGUUUUGUCUGGCCAACUAGAUCUAAGAUUCUUGCAAUGGGAGAAGUGCUUGGUUUUGGGUUCAUACCGUGCGGUGACCUCACCAAGUGACAGAAGGGGUAGCGAGGCACACAUCGUGUUGUUGCCAUCAAGGAUAAAAAGAUGGGGUUUUCAUCAUUGGUUUGAGAUUAUCCCUCUACAUCAUGUCAUCUUGCUUAAGGCGUUACUCUGUUCGUCAUGAACUCAAUACACUAGAUGCAUGCUGGAUAGCAGUCGAUGUGUGGAGUAAUAGUAGUAGAUGUAGAAAGUAUCGGUCUACUUGUCUCGGACGUGAUGCCUAUAUGUAUGAUCAUUGCCUUAGACAUCAUCAUGACUUUGCGCGGUUUUAUCAAUUGCUCGACAGUAAUUUGUUCACCCACCGUGAUAUUUGCUAUUUCGAGAGAAGCCUCUAGUGAAAACUAUGGCCCCUAGGGUCUACUCCACUGCGACACAUCAGCGGGUACUCUCAACUUUCCACCUCUAGUGAAAACUAUGGCCCUCAGAUAUUUUCAGCCUUACACUUUUUACUUCGUUGCACUUUCCGCCUUCAGAUCUCACUUUGCAAACAAUCUUGAAGGGAUUGACAACCCCUUUGAAGCGUUGGGUGCAAGCUUGUUUGUGUUUGCGCAGGUACUCUGGACUUGACGAGACCCUCCUUCUGGAUCGAGACCUUGGUUCUCAAACUGAAGGAAAUACUUACUGCUCCUGUGCUGCAUCACCCUUUCCUCUUCAAGGGAAAAACCAAUGGAAGCCCAGUCUCCAUCAACGUGUCAACUUCUGGCGCUGUUGUCUGGGGCCGUAGCAGUUACCUUCUGAGAAAUUGCAUUGAGGAAUGCACAAAGCUUCACAAUGGCGAAUCGAACAUUUUCUGGUAGAAGCCCCCUCAAUGCAACCGGAAGCAAUUCCGUCAUAAUCACGUGGAAGUCAUGAGACUUUAGGUUUUGUAAUUUUUUCUCUGCCAUAUUUAUUAUUCCCUUUAUAUUCGAUGAGAAGCCAGACGGGACCAUCAUACUGAGCAUGUAUUCAAAGAAGAUUUCCUUCUCUUCUUUAGUAAGAGCGUAGCUGGCAGGACCUUGAUAUUGCUUUGAAUGUAUAUCGUCUUUUCCGUGCAUACGUUGCUGGUCCUCCCGUGACUCCGGUGUAUCUUUUUUCUUCCCAUACAUACCCAAGAAGCCUAGCAGGGUCACACAAAGAUUCUUCGCCGCAUGCAUCACGUCGAUUGUAGAGCGGGCCUCUAGGACUUUCCAAUAGGGUAGUUCCCAAAAUAUAGAUUUCUUCUUCCACAUGGGUGUGUGUCCGUCCGCAUAAUUCAGAACAUAUUCUCCGCGAGGACCAAUUUCAAAGAUUACUUUUAAAUCCGUGACCAUAUCAAGUAUAUGAUCACCAGUACGGUGGUCAGGGUUGUUCUAGUGAUCUGCCUCACCUUUGAAAUGCUUGCCUUUCUUUCUUAAGAGAUGCUUGAUCGGAAGAAAUUGACGAUGUCCUAGGUGCACAUUCUUCUUACAUUUAUCCAAAUAUAUACUCUUGGUCUCACUUAAAUAGUGUGUGCAUGCAUUGUAUCCCUUGUUUGUCUAUUCUAAAAGGUCACUAAAAGCAUGCCAAUCAUUGAUUGUUACAAACAACAACGCUCGUAGGUCAAAUUUCUCAUGUUUGUGCUCAUCCCACACGCAUACACCUUUUAUAUCCCACAAUGGUAAAAGUUCUUCAACUAAUGGCCUUAGGUACACACCAAUGUUGUUGUCGGGUUGCAUAGGGCCUUGGAUGAGCACUGGCAUCAUAACAAACUUCCACUUCAUGCACAACCAAUGAGGAGAGUUAUAGAUACAUAGAGUCACACGCCAGGUGCCAUGAUUGUUGCUCUGGUCCCCAAAAGGAUUAAUGCCAUCUACACUGAGACCAAACCAACAGUUCCUUGCGUCAUCUUCAAAAUCCGACGACUCUCUCUCCAUUUUUCUCCACUGCGACACAUCAGCGGGUACUCUCAACUUCCUAUCUUUCUUACGGUCUUGUUUGUGCCAUCGCAACAACUUGCCAUGCUCUUUGUUUUGAAACAAAGAUUCCAAAAGUGGUAUUAUAGGAGCAUACCACAUCACCUUGGCAGGAAUCCUCUUCCUGGGGCGCUCGCCCUCAACAUCACUAGGGUCAUCGCUGCUGAUCUUAUAGCGCAAUGUACCGCAUAUCGGGCAUGCAUUCAAAUUCUCGUACUCCUCAUCACAAUAGAGGAUGCAGUCAUUACGGCAUGCAUGUAUCUUCUACACCUCCAAUCCUAGAGGGUAGACAACCUUCUUUGUUUCGUACGUACUGUCGGACAAUUCGUUGUCCUUUGGAAGCAUCUUCAUUAACAUUUUCAGCAACUUCUCAAAUCCCUUGUGAGAUACAUCAUUCUCUGUGUUCCAUUGCAGCAAUUCCAGUGUGGUACCCAGCUUUUUCUUGUCAUCUAAGCAAUUUGGGUACAAUAAGUUUUUGUGAUCCUCUAACAUGUGCUGCAACUUCAACUUCUCCUUUUCACUUUCGCAGUUUGACUUUGCAUCAGCAAUGGACCGACCAAGAUCAUCAAUGGGCUCAUCUGAUGCCUCUUCUUCACCUUCUUCAUCUUCAUUCUCUUCCCCCCAUUGUAGUACCAUCGUAUUCAGGGGACCCAUGAUAGUUGUCAUCAUCCUCUUCUUCUUCAUUAUCUUCCAUUAGUACACCUCUUUCUUCGUGCUUGGUCCAACAGAUAUAGCCGGACAUGAAACCAGACGUAAACAGGUGGACGUGAAUGAUUUUUGAGCUAGAGUAAUUCCUAUCAUUCUUACACACACCACAUGGACAACGCAAAAACCAUUCCACUUGUUUGCCUUAGCCGCAUGCAGAAAACUAUGCACGCCAUCAAUGAAAUGGGGAGAGCGUCGGUCGUCGUACAUCCAUUGUCAACUCAUCUUCAUUACACAACACCGAAAAGACCAAAUUAAUACAAGUUCAUACAUAAAGUCCAUACACACUUAUUCUCAUAAAACAACAUAAAACUAUGUAGCUAAAACAUUUAGAUGCAAUAACAAAUGCAAUUAAAAUCACAACUAAGGUAAUAAUCGAACCAAUAGCAUAACGAUACCAAGCCUCUUUAUUAACGACAUAUUUUCUAAUCUUUCUAAUCUUCAAGCGCAUUGCAUCCAUCUUGAUCUUGUGAUCAUCGAAGACAUGAGCAACGUAAAACUCCAAUUUCAUCUUCUCUUCUCAAAUUGUUUUCAAUUUUUCUUUCAAAUACUCAUUUUCUUUUUGAACUAAAUUUGACUUCUCGACAAGAGGGUCGGUUAAAAUUUCCGGUUCACAUACCUCCCAGAUAUGAAUAUCUAUGUCAACUUGAUGGGCAUAAUUUUCAUAAACACAAAAUACAACAAAUAGUUAUAAAAGAGAAUAUACCACAUCCGAAUCAUAAACCGGACGAGGGCCAAUGGGCACGGAUAUCUAAACCAUGGCACUAUGUAUAACAAACAAUCAUACAAGUAAGAAAAUUAUGCAAGUAACCAUCUAAAUCAUACAAAUAAGAUUUUUUUAGAAAAAUGAUAAGAACAAGAGGCUCACCAAGGUGGUUCCGGCGAUGGGACGGUGCGGGUGAUCGACGGUUGUUAGGACGGGCACGGGAAGGCACUAAGUAAACCAGACCUACACAUAUGCAAACUAAGAAGUUAAUUUGAGCUCAAGUUGCAUAUAAAUGAAAUAAACUCCCACAUAAUUACUUCAAACUAAAACCCACAAAUCACUAUACUUAUAGAGCAUUGCACGAGCUAAUCUAGCAAUGAGAGAUGAAAAGACAAAGUUGCUAACCUUUGUGAACACUUGGAUAGAUGGGGUGCCUCAAAUCUUGAAAAAUGGAGGAUGACAUGGAGCAAGGGGAAGAGUGAAGAGGAGAGAAAGGGGCAAACUGAGAAAGUAGAGCUCUUGGGCUCGGGCUUGACGAAGCACUAUAUAUAGUGAUAUCUUUAGUCCCGGUUGGUGAUACAAACCAGGACUAGAGAUGGACAUCUAGUCCCAGUUGGUAGCACCAACCCGGACUAAAGGGGAUCGCAUGAUCCCAGGCCUAACGCAACCUUGCCACGACACCUUUAGUCCCGGUUGGUAACUAAUAAACCGAGUAUAAAGCCUCGCCUUUGGAACCGGAACUAGUUGUCAAAUUAGUCCCGGUCCAAAACGAGACCAGGAUUAAUGCUCCGCACAAAAUCCCUAUUUUAUACUUGUGAUAGUUUACAAGCCAUAUUAACAUUAAAUUGUCUCAAAUACAUUUGAAAUGAAAGGUUGUCGAUACAUGUAUUGGUUGCCAACAUGAAUCCACAUAUUCUCAACCAAAUCAUUUUGCAGUUGCAUGUGAGUUUCCCAAUCACGUAUCUGAUGAUGAAACUCGGUGAACUGUGCAAACAUUAUCGCUCCUCCAUGCUGAGGCACAACAAUGUCACCCUGAAACUAAAACUCUUGCUCAUAGCGACAUUCUGGGCUCUCAUCCUCUACGAUCAUGUUGUGCAUGAUCACACAAGAAGUGAUCACCUUCCAAGGCUUCUAGGGGACCCAAGUUCUUGCAAGAUACCAAACAAUGGCCCAUCGAGAUUACACCAAAUGCAUGUGAUGACCCGCAAGUAUAGGGGAUCAAUCGUAGUGCUUUCGAUAAGUAAGAGUGUCGAACCCAACGAGGAGCAGAAGGAUCUGACAAGUGGUUUUCAGCAAGGAAAAAUCUGCACGCACUGAACUUGUCUGUAACAAGUGAUUGUGUGGUGAGAUGAUUCGUAGCAAGCAACAAGUAACAAAAGUAGCAACGGUGCAGCAAAGUGGCCCAAUCCAUUUUGUAGCAAGGGACAAGCCUGGACAAAGUCUUAUAGGAGGAAAAACGCUCCCGAGGACACACGAGAAUUUCUGUCAUGCUAGUUUCAUCAUGUUCAUAUGAUUCGCGUUCGUUACUUUGAUAGUUUGAUAUGUGGGUGGACCGGCGCUUGGGUACUGCCCUUACUUGGACAAGCAUCCCACUUAUGAUUAACCCCUCUCGCAAGCAUCCGCAACUCCGAAGGAAGAAUUAAGACAAAGUCUAACCAUAGCAUUAAACUAGUGGAUCCAAAUCAGCCCCUUAUGAAGCAACGCACAAACUAGGGUUUAAGCUUCUGUCACUCUAGCAAACCAUCAUAUACUUACUACUUCCCAAUGCCUUCCUUUAGGCCCAAAUAAUGGUGAAGUGUUAUGUAGUCGACGUUCACAUAACACCACUAGAGGAAAAACAACAUACAACAUAUCAAAAUACUGAACGAAUACCAAAUUCACAUGACUACUAUUAGCAUGACUUAUCCCAUGUCCUCAGGAACAAAAGUAACUACUCACAAAGCAUAAUCAUAUUCAUGACCAGAGAGGUAAUGAGUAGCAUCAAGGAUCUGAACAUAAACUCUUCCACCAAGUAAUGCAACUAGCAUCAACUACAGAGAGUAAUCAACACUACUAGCAACCUUACAAGUACCAAUCGGAGUCGUGAGACGGAGAUUGGUUACAAGUGAUGAACUAGGGUUUGGAGAUGAGAUGGUGCUGAUGAAGAUGUUGAUGGUGAUGAGUCCCCUCCGAUGAGAGGAGAGUUGGUGAUGACGAUGGCAAUGAUUUCCCCCUCCGAGAGGGAAGUUUCCCCGGCAGGAUCGUCCUGCCGGAGCUCUAGAUUGGUUCUGCUCAAGUUCCGCCUCGUGGCGGCAGCGAAACCACGAAAAAGCUCCUCCCUGAUUUUUUUUUCUGGACGAAACCCUUCAUAUAGCAAAAGAGGGGGGCAAGUGGGCCAGCAGGUUGCCCACAAACCCAUGGAGCGUCCUGGGGGGGCUGGCCGCGCCGUGCAGGCUUGUGGCCAACCCCUGGCGCCCCUCUGGCACUUCUUCGGCCCAGUAUUUUUGAUAAAUCAGCAAAAAAUCCUCGUUGAUUUUUACGGCGUUUGGAGUUGCGCAGAAUAGGUAUCUCAACUUUGCUCCGCUUUCAGGCCACAAUUCCAGUUGUCGGCAUUCUCCCUCUUCAUGGAAACCUUGCAAAAUAAGAGAGAAAAGGCAUAAGAAUUGUACCGUGAAGUGAAAUAACAGCCAAAGAAGCAAUAAAUAUCAACAUGAAAACAUGAUGCAAAAUGGACGUAUCAACUCCCCCAAGCGUAGACCUCGCUUGUCCUCAAGCGAAAGCCUCGCUCAAUAAAUAUGUCCACAUGUUUAUGGAGAGAGGUGUCGACAAAACAAGUUACGAACAUGCAUGCAUCAUGAUCAUGAUCAGAACAGCAAUACCAACAUAUAAUCUAUCAUGCUAAAGUGAUAAUUGCUUCACAAAGUAACGCAUGGAUCAAGAACCUUACCGAGAAGUAACAACCGAUAGCCUUUAGUCAUUGAAGCAAUUGCAAUUUGUCACAACUUCAGAAAGAGUCAAAUAAGAGCUUGUAAAGCAAAUCCACAUACUCAAUUGACAACUUACUUGAGGGAUCUUAUUCAAUCCAUAGGUAGGUAUGGUGGACACUCAUGGCAAAACUGGGUUGAUGGUUUAUGGAUGCACAAGUAGUAUCUCUAUUAGUGCGGGAGGUUUGGCUAAUGUGAGGUGGAAGCAAUCGUCACAUGCUAAGGGAUCUCUAGUCAUAUAACAUUGUUCGGAGCCAAGAAAACACAAUUCAUUAUGUUGUCUUCCUUGUCCAACUUCUACUUCUAGGCAUGCAAUAGUUUAGUGAGUGUUCACAAUCAUAGAUGGUGUUAGAGAUGAUAUAUUUAUAUGUGAACCUCUCCUUCUUUAUCACUUCCUAUUAAUUUCAACCAUGUCCAAGGUCUACGUUUGCCUACCCUCAACAAGUUUCAAUCCUCAUUCUUUUUAUAUGUGAAGCCAUCACUUCACAUAAGAUCAUUACAUGAUCUUUCAUGCUUUUGUUCUAUUCUCACUCUUUUGAUCAUGGCAAGAGGCAAAGCCCUUCAACUAAGACACUCUUUAUUAUAUGGCUCACGAGCUCAAAUACAUUGGGGGUGACACAAAGCAAAACUCAAGACUAAAACACUAAGACUUUUAAUCUACUAUAGAAAGAGAAAACUAAAAAGGAAAACUAAAACAAAGGUAAAGGCAAAAGAUGUGAUGGUGAUACGAUACCGGGGCAACUCCCCCAAGCUUGGCACAAGCCAAUGGGAUUGCCCAUAACAAUGCUCAGUUGUCUUCCUUUGGUGGUGAUGGUGGUGGAGUUGUUGUAAUCUUUGACUCCAAGAGGGCCGUUAAUCUUUGAUUUAUACCUUGGAGAUCUGCGAUAUGUUUUUCCAGCAAAGCAACUUCACGAGUGAGACAAGUAUUGCGAGCAUGAGUUGUUUCACAAAACCUCAAGAGUUCAAUCAAAGAUGGAGACGGUAGGUGGAUGAAGGGUUGGAGGAAAUCCACUUCUUCAACUUCUUCCUUGUUGAGCACAGAUUGCACUUCGUCCCAUGCCUGAUCCUUCUCCUUAGCUUUGCCCUUGGUUUCUUUAGGUAGCCAUUCCUUAGCCUCCAUGACCUCCAUCCUUUUCAGAUCAGCAUGAACUUCUCCAUAGAUUUUACGGAGGUUGUUCUCCCCCACAGAUUCCUGGGACAACAUCUUGACGUAGAUCUGCGGCAGAAAACAGGCUCGAAACAAAAAAACAGAGGAAAUCUGCGUGAUGCAGGGGUCAGACCAAACGGAAGUAUAUAUAAUGAUUUUUUCCUGACCAGAAGGAGUACCCCGCACGAAAACGGAGUCUCGGAGGCGCACGAGGUGGCCACAAGCCCUCACGGCGCGGCCAGGGGGUGGGCCCGCACCGUGCAGGCUUGUCGCCUCCUGGCAUUUUCCGGACUACUUCCAAUUUUUGUAUUUUUUCAAAUAUUCCAAAACAGAGAAAAUUUCCUACUGGAAAAGUUUUGGACUAUGUUUUCUUACCGAAUCACAUACCUCUUCGUUUUCGGAGUCUGAAAGAGGCUGAUACAUAUCCCUUAGGUAUUCUUCUGGAGUUAUGGUAUUGAUAAUAUUGCUUUCAACAUUUAUGGGAGUACCUGAGAUAUAGUGCUUGAUUGUCUGCCCAUUUACCACUCUCGGACAAUUACCUUCCAUGUUGUUGAUCUUGAUAGCACCGGAACGAUAUACUUCCUCAACAACAUAGGGACCUUCCCAUUUAGAGAGAAGCUUGCCUACAAAGAAUCUUAAACGAAAGUUAUAUAGCAAGACAUAAUCACCUACAUUGAACUCACACUUUUGUAUCCUCUUAUCAUGCCACCUCUUAACCUUCUAUUUGAACAGCUUGGCAUUCUCAUAUGCCUGAGUUCUUGAUACGUUUCCAUCGUAUCUAGUUUUCCAAACUCUUUUGCCCUUGUUUUGGACUCUAAUUUGCAUGAUUUGAAUGGAACUAACCCGGACUGACGCUGUUUUCAGCAGAAUUGCCUUGGUGUUAUUUUUGUGCAGAAAUCAAUGUUCUCUAAACGUCCUAAAAAUUUACGGGGAGCAGUUUUGGAAAAUAUAAAAAAUAUCUGCGCCAAGUUCCACCUCAGUGGGUGGGCCAGUGGGUCACAAGCCCUUGCUCCGCCACCACCCCCUGGUGGCAUGGUGCAGGCUUGUGGGGCCCACACGGCUCUGCCACCCCCAAUCUCAGGUCUAUAAGAUCCCAUUCGUCCCAGAAAAAAUGAAAAGAGAAGUUUUUGUCGCGUUUUCGAUACGGAGGCGCCGCCACCACUUGUGCUUCAUCUGGAGGGCAGAUCUGGAGUCCGUCUUGGGCUCCGGAGAGGGGAAAUCGUCGCCAUCAUCAUCAUCAACCUUCUUCCCUCUCCAAUUCCAUGAAGCUGAUCUUCGUCGUUCGUGAGUAAUCUAUUCGUAGGCUCGCUGGGCGUUGAUGAGUAGGAUGAGAUCUAUCAUGUAAUCGAGUUAGUUUUGAUGGGGAUUGAUCCCUAGUAUCCACUAUGUUCUGAGAUUGAUGUUGCUAGUACUUUGCCAUGCUUAAUGCUUGUCACUAGGGCCCGAGUGCCAUGAUUUCAGAUCUAAAAUUAUUAUGUUGUCACCAAUAUAUGUGUGUUUUAGAUCCGAUCUUGCAAGUUGUAGUUACCUACUAUGUGUUAUGAUCCGACAACCCCGGAGUGACAAUAACCGGAACCACUCCCGGUGAUGACCAUAGUUUGAGGAGUUCAUGUGUUCACCAAGUGCUAAUGCGUUGGUCCAGUUCUUUAUUAAAAGGAGAACCUUAAUAUCCCAUAGUUUCCUUUUGGAUCCCGCUGCCACGGGAGGGAUGGACAAUAGAUGUCAUGCAAGUUCUUUUCCCUAAGCAUGUAUGACGACACACGGAAUGCAUGCCUACAUCACAUUGACGAACGGGAGCUAGCCACAUAUCUCUCCAUGUUAUAGCUAUUGCAUGAUGAAUAUCAUCCAAACAAAUCACCGACCCAUUGCCUAUGAGUUUGUCCUACUGCUGCUGUUACUUAUCUUGCACUGCUGUUACUGCUACUAUUGUUGCUACUGCUGUUACUUGUCUUGCUCUGCUGCUACUGUUGCUACUACUGUCGCUUGCUACUGUUGCUACUUGCUAGUGCUGUCACUACUACUGUUCCUUGCCACUACUAUUGCUCGUUACACUGCUGCUACCUGCUACACUGUUGGUUCACCAGCCGUUGACGGGAACUGACAACUUCCGUCAACGAGGCAACGGAGGCGCCAUUGAUACAAUCGUUAGGAAUAGUCUGCCAUCAAAAGAUCGUUUCUGACACCGUUGUUAUCAUACUACUUUGUUGUUACUACUGUGCUUGCAGAUACUAAUCUUUCAGGUGUGGUUGAAUCCGACAAAUUCAGCUGCUAAUACUCGAGAGUAUUCUCUCACCUCCUGACUGGCUUAUCAACAAAUUGGGUCGAAUACUCUACCCUCGAAAACUGCUGCGAACCCACGCGCUGGUGGGCCGUCAACAACAUUCUUCUAGUUUCAUUACUGGGGAGUGCUAUGAGCAUUCUUCUGGUGCCGUUGCAGGAGAAGGUCUGUUGUCAUAAGCAUUCGUCUAGCUAACGCCAGAGAUUGCAGAUCAGCAUUUUUCUGGCGCCGUUGCCGGGGAGGUAUUGCUAUAUUCUCUGAGUUACUUGGGAUUUAUAUCUGCUGAUCACUAUGAAGAAUCUGAAGGAUCCGAAGUCCAAAGUUUUGCCCUCAACUACGAGGGGAGGUAAGGAAUUGCCAUCGAGCACUGCACUUGAUUCACCUUCAGUUAUGAGUAAGUUUGCGACUUCACCUCCUGCUAGAAAUCUUGAUUUGUCGCAUGUGCUUGAUGCUAUGCUUGAUACUAUGCCUGAUACUGCUAGAGAUGAUAUGCCUGAUACUGCUAGAGAUGCUAUGCUUGAUACUGCUUUGCCUGAUGAUGCUAUGCUUGAUACUGUUAGAGAUACUCCUUUGCCUAAUGUUCCACUAGGAGUGUUCCUUGAUAUUCAUAUUGCUAGAGUUACUGCCAAUGCUCGUGAUGCUUCUGAAACUGCCGACACUAUUGAGAUAGAACCUGCUUUUGCUCCUGCUAGAUCUAGCUCUCCUAGAUAUGAAUUGCCUGAUAUACCUGAGGGUUACGUUAUGGAGGAGAGAUAGCUGGGGAUUUUCUUGCGUGUAAGGAUGCCUAUGACGCUGAGAAAUUACUUCUCAAGUGGAAGGAAAAAUCUCGGGAAGCUAGGACAAAAAAUGACCCGUAGUUUGCCACUUCACCUAUCUUUGUCACCGAUAAGGAUUAUGAAUUCUCUGUCGACCCUGAGAUAAUCUCUCUAGUCGAAUCUGAUCCUUUUCACGGUUAUGAGUCUGAGACGGUCAUAGCCCAUCUUGCCAAACUAUCCGAAAUAGCCAACCUUUUCACUAAUGAGGAGAAGAUCCGCCAGUACUAUAUCCUUAAGCUGUUUUCUUUCUCUCUAAAGGAUGAUGCUAAAGCCUGGUUCACCUCUCUUGCUCCUGGAUGUGUGCGUAGUCCCCAGGAGAUGGUCUAUUACUUCUGUGAGAAAUAUUUCCCUGCCCAUAAGAAGCAAGCUGCCUUGCAGGAAAUAUACAACUUUGCUCAACUCCAAGGACAGAGUCUUCCACAAGCUUGGGGGAGGCUCGUCUAGCUACAGAAUGCUUUGCCUGAUCACCCUCUUAAGAAGAACGAGAUACUUGAUAUCCUCUAUAACGGACUUACCGAUGCCUCUAGAGACCACUUAGAUAGUUGUGCCGAUUGUGAUUUUAGGGAGCGAACUGUAGAACAAGCUGAGACCCUGCUGAAUAACCUCUUGAUCAACGAUAAUGCUUGGACUAUUCCCGAACCACCUCCUAACCAACUCCUAAGAAAAGAGGUAUUCUAUUCCUCGGUCCCGAAGAUAUGCAAGAAGCCAAGAAAUCUAUGCAAGAGAAAGGCAUUAGAUCUGAAGAUGUCAAAAAUAUACCACCUAUCGAAGAGAUCCACGGUCUCGACAACCCGAUACAGGUAGUGGAAGUGAAUUCUCUGUGUAGGUUUGAUGAGAGUGAUAUUCCUUUUGAUAAACCUGCUAGCCUAUGCUUUGAUGAAUUUGACAACUUUGUUGCCAAACAACAGAGUUUCAAUGAUUAUGUUAGCAAACAUUUGGAACAAAGUCCUCAUAUGCUUAGCCAACUAAGUGCUUGUGUAGACAGAAAUGUCAAUGCUGUGAAGCUUCUGAGUAAACAUGCCUCUAUGAUUACUACCCAGGUAGAACAAGUACUUAAAGCUCAGAAUAACCUACUCAAUGAAUUAAAUGAAAACUCUGUCAGAGUCAUUACUAGAGGAGGCAAAAUGACUCAGGAACCUUUGUAUCCUGAAUGUCAUCCUAAGAGAAUUGAUCAAGAUUCUCAAGGAAUCAAUGUUGAUACGUCCAGUCAUCCUAAGGAGAAGAAGAAGGAUGAUAGAGACCUGCACGCCAGUUCACCAAAUACUGUCACACCUGAAGAACCUAAUGAUAUCUCUGCGUCUGAUGCAGAAAAACAAUCAGGUGAUAAACAUGAACCUGGUGACAAUAUGGACAGUGAUGUUCAUAAUAAUUCUCCACCUAGCAAUGAUGAGGAUGUGGAGAUUGAACCUACGGUUAAUCCUGAUAAUCCACAACCUAAGAAGUACGACAAGAACGACUUCACUGCUAGGAAGCAUGGUAAAGAAAGAGAGCCAUGGGUUCAGAGACCUAUGCCCUUUCCUCCUAAGCCAUCCAAGAAAAAGGAUAGUGAGGAUUUUGAGCGCUUCGUUGAGAUGAUAACACUCGUCUUUCUGCAGAUGCGGUUAACUGAUAUGCUCAAGAUGUCUCCGUAUGCCAAGUACAUGAAAGAUAUCGUAACUAAUAAACGGAAGAUACCAAAUCUUGAGAUCUCCACCAUGCUUGCCAAUUACACUUUUAAAGGUGGAACUCCUAAGAAACUUGGUGAUCCCGGAGUGCCCACUAUACCUUGCUCUAUUAAAGGAAACUACGUAAGAACUGCCUUAUGUGACCUUGGAGCCGGUGUUAGUGUUAUGCCGCUCUCUCUUUAUCGUAGACUUGAGUUGGAUAAGUUGACACCCACUGAAAUUUCUCUGCAAAUGGCCGACAAAUCAACUGCUUUCCCUAUCGGCGUUUGCGAGGAUGUGUCUGUUGUGGUUGCUAAUACCACUAUCUUAACAGACUUAGUUAUCUUGGACAUUCCCGAGGACGAUGCCAUGGCUAUCAUCCUCGGAAGACCCUUUUUAAACACUGCAGGGGCUGUUAUAGAUUGCAACAAAGGCAAUGUCACUUUCCAUGUCAACGGUAAUGAGCACACAAUGCACUUUCUGAAGAAACGAUAUCAAGUACAUUGCAUCAAUGCUAUCGAAAAGACUUCAUCGAUUCUCAUUGGGAGCUUUGAAUGCCCUAUUCCUCGUGUCAAGAUGAAGUAUGAUUUUCUUGUUGGGGAUAUACAUAUCCCCAUUGAGGUGACUUAGUGGCUAUUCGAAAAUUUGCCGUUCUCUCUUGCGAUUCGAGAAGGUUUUGCCAUAAGGACUUGAUCAAUCCCAUUGACGGAUUUCUUUCGAUGACCAUGAAACGGAUGAAUCAAAGAGUCACAUACCUCCGUUUUGAGUUUUCCUUUUCUUUUGCUUAGAAGAAAAAAUGAUAGAAUUUGUUUAGUUUUUCCUGUUUUCUGUUUUAGCGUCCCGGAGAAAAAUACCUCGAAAAUAAAAGUUCUCCGAUGGUCUUGAAAAUUUAGUAUGAUUUUUUCUAUAAUUUUUGAAAAUUUCUCGGCCUGAGAGCUGGCCUGGGGGCCUGACCAGUGGGCCACAUGCCCUUGCUCCGCCACCACCCCCCUGGUGGCCUGGUGCAAGGUUGUGGGGCCCACAGGCACCCCCUCCACUCAUUCCAGCUCUCAGCCUCUUCUUCCACCUCCAGAAAAAAUUGUUUCGCAACACAAACCCGUGUUCUUGCUCAUUUGGUUGUGAUUUUCGAUCUCCUUGCUGAAAGCACCAUUCUUCGAACUGUUUUGGGGAAAUUGCUCCUUGGUAAGUGACUCCUCCAUUGGUCCAAUUAGUUUUUGCUCUAGUGCUUUAUCCUUCGCAUAUUCUUGCUACCUUGGUGACCCUGUUCUUGAGCUAGAAAUGUUUAUUUUAGCUGGUCCCAAGUAGUUUUAGCGCGUGAUACGGUCUCUAGGCACUAGUAGGAGUAGUUGCUACAAGUUGGGUUAAUCCUUAUUCACUUAUCUUUCGAAAUCUCUAAAAAUUUCAGAAUUUUUCAGAGCUAGAAAAAGGAAAAGAUGAGGAGGUUCUUGAGAGGCUCUUCAAGCCGUAACACCAAGGAGGAUGAGAAGAAUCACCCCAAGUACGUAGUCCCUCGAGUCACAGAAGUUCAAGUGUGCGAGUGGCCAAGUGAUGAAUUUUUGCGCGCCGUCGGACUUUAUGAAGACUUUUAUUACUUGGCGGAGAACGCAGCUCUUACUGCGUUCGUUGAAGAUAAGUGCCCACAAUAUCUCCUCCUCACCAAUAUUUUCGUUCAAAGCUUCAACUUUUAUCCGAGGAAGAAUCCUCCCAUGGUUGAGUUCAUGAUAUACGAUGUUCCCCAGUGCAUGACGCUGCAGGACUUUUGCAAUGUAUACAAAUUACCUUAUGUUGGGGAUAUCCGUGACCCUCGUCCACGGACUUGGAGGAUUUCAUUGGUUCUCUUUCUGUUGGAGAGGAGAGAGGAGUGUCUCGUGCUAGAAUUCCUAGAAUACAUUUUCCUGUGCUUCGGUACUUCUCACUAUUUGUGGGAAAAUGUUUGAUUGGCCGUGGGGAGGCUGGAUCACUUAGUUCUCCAGACCUUGCGGUUUUGCGCGAAGGCCUUUAUAACGAUAAGACUUAUAGCUUGGGCGCUAUAGUAGCUCAACGGUUGAUCUUGAACCGUUCUAAAGGUGUUGUCUAUGGAGGUAUCUAUGCUACCCGUCUUGCGAGACACUUUGAGAUACCCAUUAGACAAAGAGAGGAAGGAGAGAUGCUUCUCCCUGAGAGAUAUCUGGAUUAUGACAGCAUGGUUCGCCAUGAUUUUCUGGAUAGAGAUGCUAGUAGACGGAUGAUUUAAAACCUGGUGUUUAGCCACGGUACUCGAGAGACUAUUACUUUGCCUGCUCCUUCUUUGUUUGAUCUUCAUGCAGGCAGGUACACUAUUAUGCCCGUGGACAUCUACGCAUAUUGGGGCUUGGCCCAACCACACGCGCCCGUGCCCGAGCCGCCAGUCGAGUACCAGACGCCAGUUUAUCAGUGGGAACCAGAGGAGCUCACACAGCAGUGGCAUCCACAGUCUGCUCUGGAGUAUCCUGGAGCUGGUUAUUUCCCACCUUGGGAGUAGACCAAGCUAGGCCAAAAGCCUAAGCUUGGGGGAGUACAUGUUCUCACCGACUUUACAUUCAUGCUUAGGCUUUCACUUCGUUAGCCGGUGUUUACACUUUGCCACUGUAUUAUCCAUGCUAGUUUCUUUUCGUUUUCUUGUUUUCUUGUUUUGUGUCCUUUUGAGAAAACCCAAAAAGAUUUUUCUUUCUUCUUUUGCUUGUUGGGAGCUUUCCCGUGUAAAUAGCUUUGUUUUUCUUUGUGUCAAGGUAGAAGAUAUUGGUUCCAAUGUUUAGUGGUUCUUACAUGCUUACCUGUUUAGCUAUCAAAGAGCCAUAUUAUUUUGUCUUCUCCUUUGUGUUUGCCUGCAGAUUCAGCUUAGUCCAAUGCGCUUAUUAUCGUUUUCAUCGUUCGAUCGUGCAAAUGAAAGGCAACAAUGAUGAUAUAUGAUGAAGUGACUGAGACUGAAAAGCUGGUAUGAACUCUAUCUAUUUUGUUUUUGUAAAUAUGACUAGCUUGUCGACCCAGAUUUAGCUUUGUUGUGAGAGAACCAUGUUUGCAAUGACAACUUAGAGAUCAUAGUUUCUGAUGCCAUGCUUAUUUAGCUGAGAGCUUAUAAUGGUUUGUCUUGAAUGCCAACAUAGAUUUUGAGAUGACUAUGAUGUAGUAUGAUAGGAUGGUUGUCGGGGGGAUAACCCCGGGUAGGCUUAUCGAGCCUAUUCCUUCAUUUCUGGCCCAAUGGACAUGAACGUAUGCAGAUUCCCAAGUCCCAAGUCUUCUGGCCGGCUAGGCAUCACCUACCGGCUAGAGGACUUGGCGGCCAUCUUUCUGGUCGGCCAGGCAACCCUUGCCGGCUAGAGUCAAGGCGGCCUCCUCUUCUGAGCCGGCCUGGUCCCGGCAGCCGGACUGGGGAGGAGGUGGCCGCACUUAAGCCGGCUAGCCAAGCAGGCUAGCCGGCCGAGGAUCACAUGUCACAUCAGAUCGUAGGUCAGGAUAAGACCUCACGAUUAAAGGUAGCUACGCGUCAGCAAAGUACUGGAUCGGGGCGCCUGGCAGGUACGAGCGUCGGCCGCCACACCGCUGACCUACCCCGGCUCUGAUCCAUCACCUGGCAUAGUGUCGGACCGUCACACUCCCACUCCAUUACUGCACUCGGCACGGGGAACAGUGGAGGCGGCCGUACUACCUGCCAAUGAAGAAUGUCACGGGGCGACGCUUGACGUACAACGCGUGCUCGGCGUCAACCUUACAUGAGAGCCUCAUUGGCCAGCCAGCGGGUCCCAUAGGCAAUCGAGACCAUGCAACCGACGGGCCCCCCAGUGACAAGACAAGACUCGUGUGGGCCCCUGGCCAGCCGGCAAGGCUACCAGCCGGGUCCCACACUUGUACCCUUUAUCCAUAUUGUAGGCCGGCGGGUUCGUCUAUAAAACCCCCCGGUCACCCUUCAUGCAGGGGGGCCGAUCAUUCAUGAGUCAUUCAACACAACACAUUCACCAACCACAGAGAGGGAGGUAGAGACGAGCCGGCUGCUCCCCUCUUCCUCCUCCCAACACAGCUCGAGGAGCGACAUUGUACUCUAUUCAUACACAUCAAACACUCCGGUAGGAUUAGUGGUAUUAUCUCAACGGAGAGCCCUGAACCUAGGUACAUCGUGCGUCCCAUGCGUGUACCAACCUCGUUCCCAGCGUCCACCUUUGUCCCUUCGGUUCUCACCGACUUUAGCCUACCUAUGGCAUAUGUUGUGAGUAUUCACCGACAUUUGGCGCCCUUUUGGGGCCGAUCGCGGCAUCGGUUGGCUUUAUGCGCUGGGCGGGGCCCCGCACCUACACCACCGGAUGCAUAGCGUCCAGAUCAGUUUGCAUGCCCGUGGAGCCCGCUUUCGACGAGGCGACACCCAUGAUGAUCGACGUCCCCGUCCGCCAUGCGGAUUCGGACGAAGAUUCUGAUGACGAGGCGCUCCCUAGCAUCGUCGUCAUUGCUAUGGAGAACCUCAGCGUUCUCUUCAGCGACCUUCAUCUCAACGACGGUCCGCGCUACUUCGGUGAGGACUUCGACGUUGAGGCACUCUGCGCCAGCUUCAACAGGCUCUUUAUCGCUGAGAUGCCUGUCCACGACGUAUAUCCCAGUAACGUCCUCAUCUUCGACGGCCCUCCGCCGUCGGUGGGGUUCUUCACCCCAUACCACGUUGCUGCCGUCUCCAACACCGUGGAGGUGAUGGUUAUCGGCGUCAGAACUAGCACGGCUCCCAGCAAGGCCUCCGCAGGCGCUGGCGAGCCCGCUGCGGCCACCACUCAUACUCUUCGGGAUGCCAUCGCCGGCCUGAAGACACCCGUCACCACUUCUACAAACCCUGCUGACGCUCGGGCCUCGCUAGAGGCGGCUCGCAAACGUAUCUUGGAGGAGGGAAUCGCCGUAGCUUCGGCAAAACGUCGGUUGGAGGCUACGCAACGCGAGUAUAACUCCGCAUACGGUCUCACUCCGAUUUCCGAGGCCCCUAGCCGGCUUGGAUCGGUCCGCAGCCGCGGCCAGUUCGUCGCCGAGGUUCUAGGCGGUGAUCUGCCCACCUACGAGACUCCUAUGGCCAACAUGUGAGCGGCGCAGGCAGCCAUGAAGGAGAUGGCAAUCCUAGAAGGCGAGGAGCGCGCCUUCGAGGAGAAGCGGGUCAAGGACCUCCUUAACGCCGCCGACCAGCAACACGCCCGGCUUGACCCCAGUCAGGCUCAAUCGGAAUCUCCCGGACCCAACUCUGGGGCACGCCGCAACCCUAGUGGUCAGCAUCGCCCUUCCGGCCGGAGGGGCGAGGGAAGCCACGACCGGCGCUCUCAGCGCCUGAGCAAGCACACUUCGGGCUUACAUCGUGGAGGCGACGAGGGCGAUUCUGAGUGUGAGAUUCUUCCCUCGCGAAGAACUCAUGUCUCCGGCUCAUGAGGCGCCUCCCCUCUCGCCACCAGGGCCGGCGCUCACGCCACCCAGGAUGAGCGGGACGCCCGCCGGCGUCUCAUCGUCCUGGCCCAGUCAGCCCUCCUAGAGGAAGACGGACCCGUCGGUCCGGCAUGCUUCGGCCCCCGGAUCCGAGGGGAGCCGUUCCCCCGAAGAUUCACCCUACCUCGGGACACGCCAAAGUACAACGGCGCGGCCAAGCCAGAGGACUGGUUGAUUGACUACACGACGGCUGUCGGCAUCGCCAAGGGCAACAAGCGCGUACCAGUUUGCUACGUGCCACUCAUGUUGACCGGCUCGGCCCGGACUUGGCUUAACAACCUCCCAGCCGGCAGUGUCAACUCCUGGGUGGACUUCGAGGAGGCGUUCGUCCGCAACUUCACUAGCACCUACAAGCGCCCUGGCUGGCCCCGCGAGCUGUCCAUGUGCGUCCAGAAGGCCGACGAACCCCUUCGCGACUACGUCACCCGGUGGACUGAGCUCCGCAAUUCCUGCGAGGGGGUGCAUGAGGUACAAGCCAUCCAAUAUUUCAUCGACGGUUGUUGAGACGGCACCCUCCUCAAACACAAGCUCAUGUGCACCGAGCCCACCUACCUGGCGGUGCUCAUGGCCAAGGCGGACAAAUACGCCACGGCAGACUCAGCAAUGCGCGUCAAGGUGACCGCUUCGGACAAGGUUGUGCCUACGCCGGCUACUCCCAAGCCGGCUGGGGACAGCCGAGGCGGCCAGAACAACUAGAAGCGCAAGGCGGAUCAGAUGGAUCCCCGCUCGAACAACAAGUUGGUGGCCAGUGUGGAGGGCGAAGCGUCGGCCCCUCAAGCUGGCCCUCCACGAAAGCGUCCCAACCGGAGCAACACCAACUGGCUGCCCAAGCAAUCCUUCGAGCAUCUGCUCGACGCCCCAUGCAAGAUACAUUCUGGGGCGCAGCCGUCUACCCACACCCUUCGAUAGUGCAGCUUUGCACGCCGGCUGUCGCAAGGAGAUGGCUUGCCGGCUCCUCCAGGUGCGCAGGCGGUCCCUUCUGCACCGACUCCCAACCACGCUCCGGCUCCGCCACCCCCGCCUCGCGACGAUGGUCACCACCAAGACGACUACCCUCAUCAAGAUGGAGCGUUCAUCGUCUUCACCUGUGAAGGCGACAACAAGCACAGCCUGCGCCAGAGGCGGCGUGAGGUAAACGCCACAGUCCCCCCGGUUCCCCAAUACAUGCAUUGGUCUGACAAACCAAUCACUUGGAGCCGGGUGGACCAUCCUGUAGUGAUGCCCAACCCGGGAUCAUACGCCCUCGUCCUCGACCCCACCUUCGCCUCCAAAAGGCUCACCUGCCGAUUCUCCCGGGUGCUGGUUGACGGCGGCAGCGGCAUCAACAUACUCUACCUCGACACUCUCCUCAAGCUCGGGCUCAAGGAGACGGACAUCCUACCAACCAGUACCGUCUUCCAUGGCAUCGUGCCUGGGCAGUCCUGCUCGCUUAUCGGCAAGAUCCAGCUGGACGUCCUCUUUCGCGACAAAGCCCACUUCCGCCGAGAGUCCAUAUGGUUUGAGGUAGUGGACCUCAGUAGCCCGUAUCACGCGCUGCUGGGAAGACCGGCUCUGGCCAAGUUUAUGGCUAUUCUGCAUUAUGCCUACCUAAAGAUGAAGAUGCCGGGUCCCAAGGGCAUCAUCACUGUUGUUGGCGACUACAAGAAGUCGCUCGAGUGCGCCCAAGAUAGCAGUUGCCUCACCGACGCCUUGGUGAUUACUGAGGAGAAGCGGCAGACUGACCGGGUCGUGGCCCAGGCUACCGAGCAGUCGGCGAUUCCUUCUCCUCCGUCCCAAUCGGCCGACGAGGGCUCUUUCAAGCCGGCUAAAGAGAUCAAGCAGGUCCCACUCGACCCUGCCAACCCGAAGCAGUGCGUCACCAUCGGGGCUGGCCUCAGCCCCAAAUAGGAAGGCGAGCUCGUAGACUUCCUCCGUGAGAAUCGGGACAUAUUUGCAUGGUCCCCCAAGGACAUGUCGGGUGUUCCGAGGAAGUAUGCCGAGCACAAACUUCACGUGCGACCGGAUGCGAAGCCAGUGAAACAGCCCCUGCGCCGCUUCGCCGAUGGGAAUCGGCGCUCGAUCGGAGAAGAAAUCACCCGGCUCCUUGCAGCCGGCUUCAUCAUGGAGGUUUUCCACCCGGACUGGCUGGCUAACCCAGUCCUGGUGCUGAAGAAGAACAACAUGUUGCGAAUGUGUAUCGACUACACUAGCCUGAAUAAGGCCUGUCUGAAAGACCCUUUCGCGUUGCCUAGGAUAGAUUAAGUGAUCGACUCCACUAUAGGCUGCGAAUUGCUGUCGUUUUUGGAUGCUUAUUCACGCUACCAUCAAAUUAAGCUGGAUCCAGCUAAUCGCCUGAAGACCUCCUUCAUCACGCCCUUCGGGGCCUACUGCUACACCACCAUGACGUUCGGUCUGAAGAAUGCAGGUGCGACAUUCCAAUGCUGCAUGCAGCAGUGCGUACUGCCACAGAUUGGCAGGAACAUCCACGUCUAUGUGGAUGACAUCGUCGUCAAGACAAAGCAGCACUUCAGCCUCCUCGACGACCUGCGGGAGAUGUUCGCCAAUCUGCGCGAGUACAAGAUCCAGCUCAACCCCGAGAAGUGCGUCUUCGGGGUCCCAGGCAGCAAACUCUUGGGGUUCUUCGUAUCCGCCUGCGGCAUCGAAGCAAACCCUGAGAAGAUCGACACCAUCGAGCGGAUGGUGCGGCCGGCUCGGAUCCUCGACGUCCAAAAGUUCGUUGGCUAAUUGGCAUCCCUUAGCCGGUUCGUCAGCCGGCUUGGCGAGAAGGCCCUUCCACUCUACCAGCUCAUGAAGAAGACGACAAAGUUCGAGUGGAACGACCGGGCAGACGAAGCCUUCCGCAACCUCAAGCAGGUAAUCUCGAGCAUGCCGAUCUUGGCAGCCCCGUCUAAAAGGGAACCCAUACUCAUAUACAUCGCGGCGACCACUCGCGUGGUUAGUGUAGUGUUGGUAGUUCAGCGUAAAGAGGAAGGCAAGGCCCUGCCAGUGCAGCGCCCUGUCUACUACCUUAGCGAGGUCUUGUCCGCCUCUAAGCAGAACUACCCACAUUAUCAAAAAAUGUGUUAUGGUGUUUACCUUGCUGCAAAGAAAUUGAAGCAAUACUUCCAAGAGCAUGCCAUCACUAUAGUGAGCACUGCUCCGAUUUUAGAGAUCAUGGGCAACCGUGAUGCCACGGGUAGAAUUGCCAAAUGGUCCAUCGCCAUGGCGGAUCUUGAUAUUCAGUACGAGCCUCGCACCGCCAUCAAAUCGCAGGUGGUGGCCGACUUCUUAGUCGACUGGGCCGAGACCCAGUUUGAGCCACCGCCUCCAGACUCUACGCAUUGGCGAAUGUACUUCGACGGCUCGAAGAUGCGGACAGGACUGGGAGCCGGCAUCAUCUUGACGUCUCCGAAAGGGGACCAGCUCAAGUACGCUCUCCAGAUCCAUUUUGCCGCCUCCAACAACAUCGCCGAGUACAAAGCACUGGCUCAUGGCCUCCGGCUUGCCAAGGAGAUCGACAUCCGACGACUCAUAUGCUUCGGUGAUUCGGACUUACUGGUGUAGCAGGUCUCUGGCGAAUGCGACGCAAGGGACGCCAACAUGGCGAGAUAUCGCUUCCUGAUCCAGCAGCUCAGCGGUCCUUUCGAGGGUUGUGAGUUUCACCACGUUCCCAGGGCAGAAAAUGAGGCGGCCAAUACACUGGCGAAGAUCGGCUCCACGAGACAGGCCAUUCCAGCCGGCGUCUCCCUCGAGCAACUCCAUAAGCCGUCUAUCAAGCCAUCUCCCGAGCCGGCGUCGAUCUUUGUACCGGCCGACUCUACGAUGCAAGCGUCGUCGGCUCCGUCAGUUACGCCGGUUGCGGACCCCACGCCGGCUGCGCUGGCGGCGCCAACUCCAAAUACGGCACCGACUGAAUCCACGAUGCAAGCGCCGUCGGCUCCACCAACUACGCCGACGGCGGUUCCUAUACCGGCUCCAUUGGUCCCACCGACUCAAUGGCGGCGCCAGCUACAACAACAACCCCGGCUCUGCCCGGGCUCGAAUCCUCCCAGUGGGUGGACGUCAUGGAGGUAGACGGUGAGCCGACUAUGGUGACAGCACGAGAGACAUCAUCAAGCUCGGGGGCUGCAAAAGCCCCCAACGGUCAAGACGAAGCGGAGGCGGCCCUUGUGGCGGCUCCGUCAUGGGCUCAAGCUAUUCUGGCCUUCCUUCUUCGCAAAAAACUUCCUCAGAACAAGGCGGAGGCGAGACAGAUCCAGCAGAGAUCCGCCGCCUAUGCCAUCAUCAAUCGCGAACUGGUACGACGCAGCGUGACCGGCGUGUUCCAACGCUGCGUCGAGUCCGAAAAAGGGCAGGAAAUCCUCAAAGACAUCCAUGAGGGGGAGUGUGGGCAUCACGCUGCCUCCAGAACCCUGGUGGCCAAAGCAUUCCGUCAUGGAUUCUACUGGCCCACGACCCUCGAGGAGGCUGUGGAUCUGGUUGACAAGUGCGAAGGCUGCCAGCGCUUCAGCGCGCAAAGCCACAUGCCGCCUUCAGCCCUCAAAACCAUUCCCCUGUCAUGGCCAUUCGCCGUCUGGGGACUGGACAUGGUAGGGCCCUUUAAGAUGGCUCGUGGAGGGAUGACACAUCUUUUGGUGGCCGUCGACAAAUUCACCAAGUGGAUCGAAGCCAGACCUAUCAAAAAACUUGACGGCCCCACGGCGGUCAGGUUCAUCACAGACAUCUCUGUCCGAUAUGGCGUUCCCCAUAGCAUCAUCACCGACAAUGGCACCAACUUCUCCAAGGGCGCCCUAGCGCUCUAUUGUUCCAAGGUAGGCAUCCGGCUCGACUUGGCUUCAGUGGCACACCCUCAGUCGAACGGCCAAGCAGAGAGGGCCAACGGCCUGAUUCUAGCCAGCAUCAAGCCAAGGCUGGUGGCACCACUGGUCAGGUAAGCCGGCUGCUGGAUUGAAGAACUGUCGGGUGUACUAUGGAGCCUCCGCAGCACGCCCAACCGGUCGACCGGCUUCACUUCAUUCUUUCUGGUAUAUGGGUCUGAGGCUAUUAUUCCCACAGAUAUCGAGUCCGACUCGCCUCGGGUUACCCUAUACACAAAAACGGAGGCGAAGGAGGCCAGAGAAGACGGUGUGCAUCUCCUCGAAGAAGCGAGGGACUUGGCCUUGAGUCAGACGGCCAUCUAUCAACAGAAGCUGAGAUACUACCAUAGCAAAAAGAUCAAGCCUCUCUCUUUCAGGGAGGGAGACUUGGUCCUCAGAAGAAUCCAGCACACUGCUGGCCAGCACAAGCUCUCAUCCCCAUGGGAGGGACCCUUCAUCAUCAGUAGGGCGCUGCACAACAAUGCUUACUACCUGAUUGACGCCCAAAAGCCAAGGAAGCGCAAGAGGGACGACUCCGGCCAAGAAACGGAAUGUCCAUGGAACGCGGCGUUGCUUCGCCCGUUCUAUUGCUAAAAGGCAAAAGUCAAGCAAAGGAAAGAGCAUGCACAUGUAUGUUUCUCCCUCUUCAAGGAACAACAAAUGCAAUAAAAAGAGCAUGCUUCAUGUUUCUUUUUAUUGAGAGUUUUCACUCAGUGUACGCCCUCUGACUUGCUUCAAUAAGCUCGGGGGCUACACCGCGUACACCUCUUGCUGGCUUAAUCAAGCUCAGAGGCUACGCAGCGCACGCCCCUUGCUGGCUUUAACAAGCUCGGGGGCUCGCUAGCCGCUCGGACGCCUUCCCUAUUGUAAAAGAACACAUAGUGUAACCGGCUGAUCCCUGGUCACCUCGUACGAGCCUGUGGGCUGGCUCCGGCCGCCUGGUUUGCGAGGUGACGCCAGGUCAGGUCGGAUACAUGCAAAGUUCGGCUACAAAGGGUCGUCGGCUCGGGCUGGCUCGAUCAUAUAUACGAUUUCAUUCAAGUCGGCCUCUGAUUGGCUUAUGUCUUGUUCUUUAAGUCUUGAUGGCUUCGAAAAAAGGAGUCAACCAGGCAUCAAAAGACAAGGUCAUAAGACAACACGCUUAGCAUACGAAUAUAAUGCUGAAUAUAUACAUUCACAAAAGCAUUGGCCCACGUCCCACGUUCAUUACAUCCCUCAGGAGGUAGAAAAAACACAAAAGGACAUCGGCUACGGGGCUGCGGCCUCAUCGGUCACCCCGGCCGCUGCUCCUGAUGUGGUAGCAUCACCAUCUCCAGCUGCUCCCGAGGCGGUUGUGCCGUCUUCCUCGCGAGGUCUCCCGGCUCCGUCCACACAGGAGUCGGCGUACGCCGCACCGCUGGGGGCGGCAGCAGAUUCCGUAGCCCAGACCGCUUCGUCGGAGCUGCCGUCGGCGCAUAGGGCUAAAGGCCGUGCAGAUCUUCAGCGAUCACACCGCCAUCUUCACCCCGCUCCAAAACAAAGUCGUCCCAGGCUGCGUACUCGGCGACGGUGCUGGCCCUCACACGAAGCUCCUCCUCCAUGCCUUACAGCUCCGCCUCCGAGCCGUCGCGCUGGGCGGCCAGCUUGCCCAAGUUCAGGUUUCGGUACCAGGACUUGGCCAAGCGUAGGGCCAUGUAAGCCCCAGCCCGCGCAGCAGAGGCACACCAGGCAUCCAGGCGCUCCCCACCCACUUCAAGCCAGCGGGCGAGACGGCUCAUGGACGCCGGCUCCACGCCUUCCGGCCACAAGGCCGCCACCAUCGACGAGCCUGCGACCUGGAGUUGAGCCACAGACUCGCCUNGAUCUCCUCCACACUCCAGCUGGAGGUAGUGUCUACCUCCUGCCCGGCCGCGCGGCGCUCCUCACGGCACACCUCGACGGCGGUGUCGGCCGCGAUCUGGGUCUCGGGGAAGAGACCUGGAGUGACGGUAGCCAAGACGUAAGAGCACAGCAAAAGGAGGAGACUGCCAAAAAGACCAAACACAAGACAAGGAAGAGAGACCCACGAUGGAAGGCAUCGUUGGUCUCAUGGGAGACCUCGAGGACCUCGCGCUCCCGCACCUUACUCGCAUGAGUAAGGCGGGCAACGUCCUCCUAGAGAGUCGCUGCAGACUCCAAAGCCUUGGCCAGCUGCGUCUACUUCUGGACAAAGGCCUCCUCCUUCUCCCUCAAGGCGGCGUCCUUGAGGUGAAGCGACGCGAGGAGGUCCACGUCGGCAGAGUAGGAGGCCUCCUUCUCCUGCAGCAUGGCCCGCAGCCGCUCCAGCUCGGCCCGGGCGGCUGCCUCGAGCUCCUUCUUCUCCGCCUGAAGAAGGUCCAGCUGCCGCUGGAGCCGGCCGCCGGCGUUACGCAGGGCAUCACGCUCUGUGGCGGCCUCGCCCAGCCGGGCUUCAAGCUCAGCGAUCCGGCUAUCGGCCCCCAGGUGCUGGGUCCGUAGCUCGUUGUAUGCGUGUACCUGAGCAUCAUAAAGCGCUUGCCGAAAGAGCGAAAAAGAGAUCAGGAUUAAGAUUCGACCUGGUUAAGACUUAACCAACCCAAUUCUCGGGGGCUACACCGAGUGGGUGCGCUAGCGCGCCCCCACUAAAGAAAACUAUGCAGGGAAAAGGGCCUCCAAGAGAUUCGGAUCGGUCGACAAUCGACCCACCCGAUUCUCGGGGGCUACACCCAGUGGGUGCGCUGUCGCACCCCCACUAACGCCAAGAGAAGAGAAAAAAAUACAAAAAACCAAAGAAGGAAACACCUACCUGGGUGCGGGCCUCCAGGCGCUCCAUGUCGCUGCAUACCACGCGGGCCGACUGCUCCACCUUGGACCGGCUGCUAGAAAACAUCGUCACCUGCUCUGGUACGCCGGAAAGCACGGUACCGGCAGGCAGUCGCAAGUGGGUCAGGUUCGCCACCCGCCAUGUCCUCAUGGGCCGNNNNNNNNNNNNNNNNNNNNNNNNNNNNNNNNNNNNNNNNNNNNNNNNNNNNNNNNNNNNNNNNNNNNNNNNNNNNNNNNNNNNNNNNNNNNNNNNNNNNNNNNNNNNNNNNNNNNNNNNNNNNNNNNNNNNNNNNNNNNNNNNNNNNNNNNNNNNNNNNNNNNNNNNNNNNNNNNNNNNNNNNNNNNNNNNNNNNNNNNNNNNNNNNNNNNNNNNNNNNNNNNNNNNNNNNNNNNNNNNNNNNNNNNNNNNNNNNNNNNNNNNNNNNNNNNNNNNNNNNNNNNNNNNNNNNNNNNNNNNNNNNNNNNNNNNNNNNNNNNNNNNNNNNNNNNNNNNNNNNNNNNNNNNNNNNNNNNNNNNNNNNNNNNNNNNNNNNNNNNNNNNNNNNNNNNNNNNNNNNNNNNNNNNNNNNNNNNNNNNNNNNNNNNNNNNNNNNNNNNNNNNNNNNNNNNNNNNNNNNNNNNNNNNNNNNNNNNNNNNNNNNNNNNNNNNNNNNNNNNNNNNNNNNNNNNNNNNNNNNNNNNNNNNNNNNNNNNNNNNNNNNNNNNNNNNNNNNNNNNNNNNNNNNNNNNNNNNNNNNNNNNNNNNNNNNNNNNNNNNNNNNNNNNNNNNNNNNNNNNNNNNNNNNNNNNNNNNNNNNNNNNNNNNNNNNNNNNNNNNNNNNNNNNNNNNNNNNNNNNNNNNNNNNNNNNNNNNNNNNNNNNNNNNNNNNNNNNNNNNNNNNNNNNNNNNNNNNNNNNNNNNNNNNNNNNNNNNNNNNNNNNNNNNNNNNNNCACGGACCUGCCUCCGGCCAGCACUGCGGCGUCUCUUGACGCCGCAUGCUCGCUGUCCAGCUGGAGGACCUGGCGCCGGCCGCAUAGAGGCCGGCGGGGAAGCUGUGGCACCCUUGCCCUUCUUCCCGGCUGCCUCGUCAGCAGCGGUCACUCCGCCCCUUUGACGCCGGCCGCGCGUCAGUGGUGGGCUGGUGACCUCCUCCACCUCAUCAGACUCCUCCUCGAAGGCUGCACCAAAACAGAAUGAGGCUAUCUCGUUGUCGUCCGUCCAGUCUGCAACGGCGGGCCGUGCGUACUCACCAGACGACUCGGUUCCUUCCGACUCCAGGGGAUUCUCCGAGCCGGCGGAGGAGUCUGAGCGGGAUUCCAUCACGCCCUCGUCCUCAAUAUCCGAGACAUUGGACACCUCCACAUCGGGAGCGGGCGGAAGGAGGGACCCCUGCAGGGUCUCGAACAGCUACAGAAAAGAGUUCAACCAAAGGCUCAGCAACGCAACCGGCUUCAAGACAAAACAACAGAGAAGAAAGAGGCCACCUACCACCGGAGGCGGAUGAACCCUGUUGAACGGGGACAUCCCCCACGUCCAUUCCCCGCUCUCAUCCAUGCGGGCGAUGGAGAUCAGGUUCACCCUUCGCGCUAUAGCGCCCGGGGUGAACCUCUUGGUGGAUAGCCGGCAUAGAUCAUGUCGGCCGCCCAUCUGGCAAACCAGAUGCGGCCGCCUCUGCGGGGGUUGAAUCCGGCGGACAACCAUGGUGGUGAGAAGGUCGCGGCCGAGGAGGCCGCUCUUCUCCAAAAUGUCGAGGUGGGCACAGAUAAGCGCCACCUCAGGAUGUGGCUUGGGAGUCUUCGCAUCCCAGUUUCGCCGCGUCGGCAGGGCGAUGUCGAACGGGGGCAUGUUGAUGGCGUCCUGGGCUGGGUCGGCGCUCUUCACGUAGAAGAAACCCUUCUUCCAAUGCUUGAUGGAUUCUUGCAGAGGCAUCUGGGGGACGCCAGACUUCGAGCGAUGAUGCACCAAUGCGGCCCCGCACGGCGUCAUUGGGCGCGGCCCCGUGAGCUUCUCCACCUCGGAUUUCUCCAUGGCGAUGGAUUGCUGCUUAAAGAAGAACAGGCUGCGCCACAGAUCGACGCGAGGCUCGAUCCCCACGAAGCCCUCGCACAGGACCAUGAAGGCGGCAAGCUGCAGUAUGGCGUUCGGCGCCAGAUGAUGCGGCUGCAGGCCAAAGAAAUGCAGCCAUUCGGCGAAAAAAGAGCUAGCCGGGAGCCCGAAGCCCCGGUAGAAGUGCUCGACGUAGACCACGACCUCUCCCGCGGCGGGUGCAGGAGCGGUCUCGGCGCUGGGGAGGCGCACCAAUACUUGGGAGGCCGGGGGCAGCAGUCGAUGGUGACGAAGCGCUUCGAUGUGCCCCUCGUCAACGUCGCUACCCAACCAGGCUCCCUGUGAGGACGCCUUCUGCGUCGAGGACUUCUUCGAGGAAGAACCGCCGGCCAUGGCUGUGGGUGACAAGAGCUCGAAGUAGUCGGCGAUGUCGCGACGGCGAAGAUGAAGAGGGCGAAGGGCGCGAGCUCUUCUUCUCAGAGCGCAGGGAGGAAGAGAGCGCGAAUGCAGGGCGACAAGAGGGGGCGAAUGGCUUCCUCAGAACCCUCGCGUCCCAUUUAAACCCCCACGAAGCGUCAUGGGGAGGGGAUCCGGUGCGCACCGGGCCCCAUUAACCCCGUGUAUUACGGGCGGUAACGCGUCCCUAAGCCCAACUGCCGCGGAGUAAAUCCGCAGAGGAUCUCCCGCGCGGAGGCCGAGGGGGCGUCGUGGCGAGACCCAGAGCCCAGGCCCGGUCCCGUCAGCAGUAAUCGCCAUCAUUCCGCCAGGCGGGGCCUGGCACGUGGCGUUCUCCGAGCAAGUUACGACUAGACCGAGGCGUCGCUUCGAAGCCACCCGGUUUCGAAGCCGGCGUCCUUCGUCACGAAUAGAGGCCAAAAUAUCAAGACAAAUCAACAAGCCGGUGAGGCCGCCCACCCGCAGGCGGCAGACCUCGCCAGCUUCGGGGACUACUGUCGGGGGGAUAACCCCGGGGUAGGCUUAUCGAGCCUAUUCCUUCAUUUCCGGCCCAAUGGACAUGAACGUAUGCAGAUUCCCAAGGCCCAAGUCUUCUGGCCGGCUAGGCAUCACCUACCGGCUAGAGGACUUGGCGGCCAUCUUUCUGUUCGGCCAGGCAACCCUUGCCAGCUAGAGUCAAGGCGGCCUCCUCUUCUGAGCCGGCCAGGUCCCGCCAGCCGGACUGGGGAGGAGGCGGCCGCACUUAAGCCGGCUAGCCAAGAAGGCUAGUCGGUCGAGGAUCACAGGUCACAUCAGACCGUAGGUCAGGAUAAGACCUCACGAUUAAAGGUAGCUACGCGUCAACAAAGGUACUGGAUUGGGGCGCCCGGCAGGUACGAGCGUCGGCGGCAACGCCGCUCACCUACCCCGGUUCUGAUCCAUCACCUAGCAUAGUGUCGGACCAUCACACUCCCACUCCAUUACUGCACUCGGCGUGGGGAACAGUGGAGACGGCCGUACUACCUGCCCAUGAAGAAUCUCGCGGGGCGACGCUUGACGUACAACGCGUGCUCGGCGUCAACCUUACGCGAGAGCCUCAUUGGCCAGCCGGCGGGUCCCACAAGCAAUCGAGACCAUGCAGCCGGCGGGCCCCCCAGUGACAAGACAAGACUCUUGUGGGCCCCUGGCCAGCCGGGUCCCACACUUGUACGCUUUAUCCAUAUUGUAGGCCGACGGGUUCGUCUAUAAAACCCCCCGGUCACCCUCCAUGCAGGGGGGCCGAUCAUUCACCAGUCAUUCAACACAACACAUUCACCAACCACAGAGAGGGAGGUAGAGAUGAGCCGGCUCCUCCCCUCUUCCUCCCCCCAACACAGCUCUAGGAGCGACAUUGUACUCUAUUCAUACACAUCAAACACUCCGGUAGGAUUAGGGGUAUUAUCUCUGCGGAGAGCCCUGAACCUGGGUACAUCGUGCGUCCCAUGCGUGUACCAACCUCGUUCCCAGCGUCCACCUUUGUCCCUUCGGUUCUCACCGACUUUAGCCUACCUAUCGCAUAUGUUGUGAGUAUUCACCGACAAUGGUAUUCUCCUUUGAAUGUUUCAAGUGGCUUGACUUGACGCAUGUUCAUGCAUGUAGUUGAAACAAAAUCAACAUAGCCUCUGUGAUGUUCGUAUUCAUGGUGAUUUAUAUCCUGUUCAUGCUUGCAUUCAAUGGUAGUCAAACUCAUUGCAUCUUGAUGAUUGUUGUCGCUCUCUAGUUGGUCGCUUCCCAGUAUUUUGCUAGCCUUCACUUGUACUAAGCGUGAAUACUGCUUGUGCAUCCACUUCCAUAAACCCAAAAGUUUUCCAUGAGAGUCCACCAUACCUACCUAUUUGCGGUAUCUACCUGCCGUUCCAAGUAAAUUUGCAUGUGCCAUUCUCUAAACCUUCAAGAAAUAAUCUGUUUUGCAUGCCCGAACCGCUCAUGUGGUGAUAGAGGGCUAUUGGUAUCUUCCAUGAUAGGAGUGUUAUCCUCGACAUGUGUUUAUUCACAGUCAUUCAUGAGAAAGGGGCCGGUAUUUGGGAUGCCCAGUUCGACGCUUAAAUCGAAAACAUAACUGUAAAACAAGACUCCCCCCGGAUUGAUGUUAGUAUGGACGGUACCCGAGGAUUCGGCUAGCCAUGGUGUGUGAUUGGUUGGUGGUGGGGGAGUUAAAACUUUACUUUUCUGUUUGGGAACCGCCUAUAGCAUGAGUAGCAUGGAAGAUAUUGAGAACUCUUGGUCAUUGCGUUGACAAUGCAAGCAUGCCACCCAAAAUUAUUAUCUCUGUUUUCAAACCUUGCGCUCUGGCACCUGUGCAAAUCAAUGCUUCCCUCUGCGAAGGGCCUAUCUAUUUAUUUUCCGGUCGAGUCAUCCUCCUUUUAUAUAAGCACCAAUUAGAAAGCACAUCUGUCAUUUUUAUGCUUUGCUUUUGAUUGAUAUUGAGUAUGACUAUGACUGGAUAUUCGUUGCUAUGAAUUACAAUGUUUAGUCAGCCCUUGAUCUUUGAAAGUGCUCUGCAUUUAUGUUUUGCGGUCGCAGAAAGAGCUAGCGAGAUACCACCUAUUCAUAUUGCUUCAUGCUUGUUUUGAUUGAAGUGUUGGUAUUUGAAACACGUUAUUAUUUGCUCGUUAGCUGAUUAUGCCAUUGAUAUUAGUUUACCAUGAGACCAUUGUGUCAUUUGCUUUUGUGGUUAACUUGUGACCUUGCUGAAAUUCUGGUUAUGAAUUAGACAUAGUUGCAACAACAAGAUCAAACAGAGUUUGUCAAAGUUUUUCUUUCUCUCUCAGUUUGUCAACUGAGUUGCUUCAUGACAAGCAAGGUUCUAAGCUUGGGGGAGUUGAUACGUCUCCGUAGUAUCUACUUUUCCAAACUCUUUUGCCCUUGUUUUGGACUCUAAUUUGCGUGAUUUGAAUGGAACUAACCUGGACUGAUGUUGUUUUCAGCAGAAUUGCCUUGGUGUUAUUUUUGUGCAGAAAUCAAAGUUCUCCAAAUGUCCUGAAAAUUUACAGGGAGCAGUUUUGGAAAAUAUCCAAAAUAUCUGCGCCAAGUUCCACCUCAGGGGGUGGGCAAGUGGGCCACAAGCCCUUGCUCCGCCACCACCCCCCUGGUGGUGUGGUGGAGGCUUGUGGGGCCCACACGGCUCUUCCACCCCCAAUCUCAGGUCUAUAAGAUCCCUUUCGUCCCAGAAAAAAUAAAAAGAGAAGUCUUCGUCGCGUUUUCGAUACGGACGCGCCGCCACCGCCUGUUCUUUAUCUGGAGGGAAGAUCUGGAGUCCGUCUUGGACUCCGGAGAGGGGAAAUCGUCGCCAUCGUCAUCAUCAACCUUCUUCUCUCUCCAAUUCCAUGAAGCUCUUCGUCGUUCGUGAGUAAUCUAUUCGUAGGCUCGCUGGGCGGUGAUGAGUAGGAUGAGAUCUAUCAUGUAAUCGAGUUAGUUUUGAUGGGGAUUGCUCCCUAGUAUCCACUAUGUUCUGAGAUUGAUGUUGCUACUACUUUGCCAUGUUUAAUGCUUGUCACUAGGGCCCGAGUGCCAUGAUUUCAGAUCUGAAAUUAUUAUGUUGUCACCAAUAUAUGUGUGUUUUAGAUCCGAUCUUGCAAGUUGUAGUUACAUACUAUGUGUUAUGAUCCGGCAACCCCGGAGUGACAAUAACUGGAACCACUCCCGGUGAUGACCAUAGUUUGAGGAGUUCAUGUGUUCACCAAGUGCUAAUGCGUUGGUCCGGUUCUUUAUGAAAAGGAGAACCUUAAUAUCCCACAGUUUCCUUUUGGACCCCGCUGCCAUGGGAGGGAUGGACAAUAGAUGUCAUGCAAGUUCUUUUCCCUAAGAAGGUAUGACGACACACGGAAUGCAUGCCUACAUCACAUUGACGAACGGGAGCUAGCCACAUAUCUCUCCGUGUUAUAGCUGUUGCAUGAUGAAUAUCAUCCAAACAAAUCACCGACCCAUUGCCUACGAGUUUGUCCUACUGCUGCUGCUACUACUAUUGCUACUACUGAUGUUACUUGUCUUGCUCUGCUGCUGCUGCUACUACUGUUGCUACUACUGUUACUUGUCUUGCUCUGCUGCUAUUGUUGCUACUACUGUCGCUUGCUACUCUUGCUACUUGCUACUGCUGUCACUACUGCUGUUCCUUGCCACUACUAUUACUCGUUACACUGCUGCUACCUGCUACACUGUUGGUUCACCGGCCGUUGACGGGAACUGACAACUUCCGUCAACGCGGCAACGGAGGCGCCAUUGAUACGAUCGUUAGGAAUAGUCUGCCGUCAACAGAUCAUUUCUGACACCGUUGUUAUCAUACUACUUUGUUGUUACUACUAUGCUUGCAAAUACUAAUCUUUCAGGUGUGGUUGAAUCCGACAAAUUCAGCUGCUAAUACUCGAGAGUAUUCUCUCACCUCCCGACUGGCUUAUGAACAAAUUGGGUCGAAUACUCUACCCUCGAAAACUACUGCGAACCCACUUGCUGGUGGGCCGUCAACAACAUUCUUCUAGUUUCAUUACUGGGGAGUGCUAUCAGCAUUCUUCUGGUGCUGUUGCAGGAGAAGGUUCGUUGUCAUAAGCAUUCGUCUAGCUAACGCCAGAGAUUGCAGAUCAGUUCUCCACUCAUCAAGCGAGCUAAUAUCAAAUAACCUCUUCUCACCGGCAAGUUUGGAAUCAAAGUUGAGCUCGUUGAUUGCCCAAUAAGCUUUAUGCUCUAUCUCAAGAGGUAAAUGACAUGCUUUACCGUACACCAUUUUCUACGCAGACAUGCCCAUGGGAUUCUUAUGGGCAGUUCUAUAAACCCAAAGUGCAUCAUCGAGCUUCUUAGACAAAUUCUUUCCAGACCUGUUGACAGUCUUUUGCAGAAUCAGUUUAAUCUCUCUAUUACUUAGCUCUACUUGACCACUGCACUGAGGGUGAUAGGGAGACGCAAUUCUAUGGUUGACAUCGUACUUAGCAAGCGUUUUACGGAAAGCGCCAUGAAUGAAGUGUGAACCACCGUCAGUCAUUAGAUAUCUAGGGACUCCAAAUCUAGGGAAGAUAACUUCUUUCAGCAUCCUGAUAGAGGUGUUGUGAUCAGCACUACUAGUGGGGAUAGCUUCUACCUACUUAGUGACGUAAUCAACAGCAACUAGGAUAUGAGUAUACCCGUUGGAUUUGUGAAAAGGUCCCAUAUAAUCAAAGUCCCAAACAUCAAAUGGUUCAAUGACAAGUGAAUAGUUCAUAGGCAUUUCCUGAUGUUUGCUAAUAUUACCUAUUCUUUGACAUUCGUCACAAGACAAGACAAACUUACGGGCAUCCUUGAAGAGAGUGGGGCCAAUAGAAACUUGAUUGCAAUACCUUGUGUGCAGUUCUAUCUCCCGCAUGGUGUCCUCCGUAGGCCUCGGAGUGACACUUCUGUAGGAUUUGUCCCUGUUCAUGUUCAGGUACACAACGUCUAAUAACACCAUCUACUCCUUCCUUACAAAGGUGAGGAUCAUCCCAAAACUAGUGUCUCAAGUCAAAGAAGAAUUUCUUCUUUUGCUGGUAUGUGCAACUAGGUGGUAUAUAUUUGGCAACGAUAUAGUUUGCAUAAUCAGGAUACCACGGUGCACUACGUGAAGCAUUGAUGACUUUCAGUUUCUCAUCGGGAAAGUUAUCAUCAAUAGGUUGUGGGUCAUCAAGAACGUUCUCCAACCUAGACAAAUUAUCUGCUACGGGGUUAUCAGCACCCUUCCUGUCGACAACGUGCAAAUCAAAUUCUUGUAGCAAGAGAACCCAUCUGGUAAGUCUAGGUUUAGUGUCCUUCUUCUCCGUGAGGUACUUAAUAGCAGCGUGAUCAGUGUGAAUAGUGACUUUGGAAUCAACUAUGUAAGACCUGAACUUUUAACCUCAAACACGACUUCUAAAAAUUCCUUCUUCGUAGUAGCAUAGUUUCUGUGGGCACUUGAUACAUCUCCAACGUAUCUAUAAUUUUUUAUGGUUCCAUGCAAUUAUCUUGUCAAACUUUGGAUGUUUUAUAUGCAUGAAUAUGCUAUUUUAUAUCUUUUGGGGGAUUAACCUAUUAACUCAGUGCCAAGUGCCAGUUUCUAUUUUUCCCGUGUUUUUGACCCUUUUUCAGAUAGAGUCCAAAUGGAAUGAAACUUUACGAUGAUUUUUUUGGGACCAAAAGAGACCCCCGAAGCUUUGGAAGAAGGCCAGAAGAGCCACGAGGGAGUCACAAGCCCAUGGGGCGCGGCCUACCCCCCUGGUCGCACCGUGCGGGCUUGUGACCUCCUCGUGGGCCCAACUAACGCAAUUCCACCGCCAUAAAUUCCUAUAAAUUCGGAAACCUCCAAAAAUAAACCUAGAUCGGGAGUUCCGCCGCCGCAAUCCUCUGUAGCCACCAAAAACCAAUCGGGAGCCCGUUCCAACACCUUGUCGGAGGGGAAUCCAUCUCCGGUGGACAUCUUCAUCAUCCCGACGAUCUCCAUGACGAGGAGGGAGUAGUUCUCCCUCGGGGGUGAGGGUAUGUACCAGUAGCUAUGUGUUUGAUCUCUCUCUCUCUCGUGUUCUUGAGAUGUCUUGAUCUCGAUGAACCGUGGGCUUUGCUACUAUAGUUGGAUCUUCUGAUGUUCUUCCCCCUCUCCCUUCUUGUAAUGAAUUGAGUUUCCCCUUUGAAGUUAUCUUAUCGGAUUGAGUCUUUGAGAACACUCGAUGUAUGUCUUGCACGUGUCUAUCUGUUGUGAUCAACUUGCGGGUUUGUGACAAUUGGGAACCUAUGCAUAUGGGUUGGCACACGUGGAUUCAUGUGAGUACUCGAUGUAUGUUUUGGUGAUCAACUUGCGGGUUCGUGACAUUGGGAACCUAUGCAUAGGGGUUGGCACACGUUUUGACUCUCCGGUAGAAACUUUGGGGCACUCUUUGAAGUUCUAUGUGUUGGUUGAAUAGAUGAUUCUGAGAUUGUGUGAUGCAUAUCGUAUAAUCAUGCCCACAGAUACUUGAGGUGACAAUAGACUAUCUAGGUGACAUUAGGGUCUUGGUUGAUAUGUAUCUUAAGGUGUUAUUCGAGUACAAACUCUUGAAUAGAUCGAUCAGAAAGAAUAACUUUAUGGUGGUUUCGUACCCGACAAUAAUCUCUUCGUUUGUUCUCCGCUAUUAGGGACUCUUUGUUGCAUGUUGAGGGCUAGUUAUAUAAUCGAAUUAUGUUAUCUUUGUUGAGAGAACUUCACUAGUGAAAGUAUUAACCCUAGGCCUUGUUUCCACGCAUUGCAAUACCGUUCGUGCUCACUUUUGUUACUUGUUACCUUGCUGUUUUUGUAAUUUCAGAUUACAAAAACCUAUAUCAACCAUCCAUAUUGCACUUGUAUCACCAUCUCUUCUCCGAACUAGUGCACCUAUACAACUUACCAUUGUAUUGGGUGUGUUGGGGACACAAGAGACUCUUUGUUAUUUGGUUGCAGGGUUGCUUGAGAGAGACCAUCUUCAUCUUACGCCUCUCGCGGAUUGAUAAACCUUAGGUCACCCACUUGAGGGAAAAUUGCUAUUGUUCUACAAACUUCUGCACUUGGAGGCCCAACAACGUCUACAAGGAGAAGGUUGGGUAGUAGACAUGAAGCAUUUUUCUGGCGUUGUUGCUAGGGAGGCUAGGUAAGCGGCACUCACCUCCCGUCAACGAAGCAUUUUUUUGGCGCCGUUGCCGGGGAGGUUAGCGCUUGAAGGUAUAUCUUUAGAUCUUGCAAUCGAAUCUUUUUGUUUACUGUUCUUUUGCUAGAAAAGUACAAAAAAGUGGAAUUGAGGAUGCCUCAUAUACUCCAUCUUUUCAUUGUCUUUCGUGAGCAUGAUGGGAAGGAAAAUUGUGCUCAAGUGCUGAAAGAAGAAUUAUGUAAAAUGCUUGGCAUAUAAUAUGUGAAUGGUGAGCAUGAUUGCAAUGUUCUUAGCAUGAAUUCUUUGAAUACCCAUGAUGCUAAUGAUAUGCAAAGCCACAAGCUUGGAGAUGCUAUAUUUGAUGAAGAUGAUCUUUUUAGUUCUUCCACUUGGAAUGAUCAAAAUCAUUUUGAUGAAAGCAUGCCCCCUAUCUAUGAUAAUUAUUGUGAGGAUAAUUAUGCUUUGAAGAAGAGGGAUGAUAAAACUUGUCAUACUUUCGAAAACCCCUUUGCUAAACCUUGCUUUUUCAUUGUGGACACAAUUUGUAGUGCUCAAGUAUUUUACGAUACUCCCACUACUAUUCUUGAGAAUAGAUUUCCUUACGUGGAGAGUAGUAAAAUUCCUAUGCUUGUAGAUCAUGAAAAGAAAGCCUUAGGUGCUGGUUAUAUUGUUGAAUUCAUUCAUAAUGCUACUGAAAAUUACUAUGAGAGAGGAUCAUAUGCUUCUACUUAUUGCAAUAGUAUCAAGCUUCCUCUCCAUGUGUUGAAAUUUUUGAAGCUAUGCUUGUUUUGCCUUCCUAUGCUAGUUGAUUCUUUCUCCAAUAAAUUGUUUGAUCACAAAAUCCCUAUGCAUAGGAAGUGGGUUAGACUUAAAUGUGCUAGCCACAUGCUCCAUGAUGCUCUCGUUGUGUUUCAAUCCUUACAUUUUAUGUGAGCAUCAUUGAAAUCAAUGCCUAGCUAAGGACGUUAAACAAUAGCGCUUGUUGGGAGGCAACCCAAUGAAUUUAUUUUUGCUUUUUUCUUUCUGUUUUGUUUUUUCCACACCAUCAUAAUUCUGGUAUCAUUGUGUUUUUUGUGUUUCUUUUUGUGUUUGUGCCAACUAAAGCCUUUAUGAUAGCUUGGGUGAUAGUUGUUUGAUCAUGCUGGAAAAAGACAGAAACUUUCUGCUCACGAAAUUAUUUUUCAUUUCUAUUCAGAAAGAGAUUUUGAGUUUAUUCUUUUUGCUGCUGAUUGAUAUACUUUUUUUCCAGGCCGUCGCAAUUGUUCAGAUUUUUUCAGGUACCAGAAGUAUCCAAAGUAUACAGAUUACUACAGACUGGUCUGUUUUUGACAGAUUCUGUUUUUGUUGAGUUGGUUGCUUGUUUUGAUGAAACUAUGGUUAGUAUCAGGGGGUACUAGCCAUGGAAAAGUGAGAAUACAGUAGCCCAUCAUCAAUAUAGAUAGAAUUCAAGUUUGCUACAGUACCAAAACAAGUGGUAGUUCAUUUCCUUGUAGUAAUGUUAUCACAAGUUUCUGUUUAAGUUUUGUGUUGUGAAGUUUUCAAGUUUUGGGUGAUGUUCUCAUGGACAAAGAGAUAAGGAGUGGAAAGAGCCCAAGCAUGGGGAUUCCCAAGGCAUCCCAAGCCAAAUUCAAGGACACCAAAAAGCCUAAGCUUGGGGAUGCCCCGGGAAGGCAUCCCCUCUUUCGUCUUCAAUCCAUCGGUAACAUUUCUUGGAGCUAUAUUUUUAUUCACCACAUGAUAUAUGUUUUGCUUGGAGCGUCUUGUAUCUUAGGAGUUUUUUCUUUUUGUUUGGUCACAAUAAUCCUUGCUGCACAACUUUUUGAGAGAGAAAUACAUGCACUCAUCGUGAUUUUGCUAGAAAGCUCAUUCUGCUUCACUUAUAUCUUUUGAGCUAGAUACUUUUGCUCUUGUGCUUCACUUAUAUCUUUUGAGCUAGAUUAUUUUGCUCUUGUGCUUCACUUAUAUCUUCAGAGCACGGCGGUGCGUGACUUGGUAGUUGGCUUAUGCUAUGAAAGUAGUACCAAAUGUGAUAGGUGCCCAAAGAGGAUACAAAAAGCUCCAUCUUCAUGUGCAUUGAAUAGAAAGAGAAGUUUUGAUUCCUCUCAAUUAGUUUUGAGACGUGGAUUCGGUAAUAUUAAUAGUUGCGUUAGUAAGGUGUUGUGAAUCUAGAAAUACUUGUGUUGAAGUUAGUGAUUCCCGUAGCAUGCACGUAUGGUGAACCGCUACGUUAGGAAGUCAGAGCAUAAUUGAUCUAUUGAUUGUCAUCCUUUGUGUUGAGGUCGGGAUCGCGCGAUGGGUUACACCUACCAACCCUUCCCCUCGGAGUAUGCGUUUAGCACUUUGUGUUUGAUUACUAAUAAAAACAUUCGCAAUAAGUAUGUGAGUUCUUCAUGACUAAUGUGAGCCCACGGUAUACAUGCACUUUCACCAUCCACCAUUGCUAGCCUCUCUAGUGUCGCGCAAUUCUCGCCGGUAUUCAAACCCACCAAAUUCCUUCCUCAAAACAGCCACCAUACCUACCUACUAUGGCAUUUUCAUAGUCAUUCGAGAUGUAUUGCCAUGCAACUCCCACCGUUCCGUCUCAUGACUUGUGCCGUCACUCUCAUAUUGCCAUUGCAUGAUCGUAAGAUAGCUAGCGAGAUGUUUUAAUGUCAUACGCCAUGCUAGAUCGUUGCACAUCCCGGUACACUGGCAGAGGCAUUUCCUGUGGAGUCAUCAACACUGUGAUCUUUGAGCUGUGAGUAAAUAAAAGUGUCAUGAUCAUCAUUAUUAGAGCAUUGUCCCAUGUGAGGAAAUAAAAAAAAGGCCAAAGAGCCCAAAAUCAAAAAGAAAAAAAAGCAUUCCUAAGAGCCCAAAUGAAAAAAAAGAGAAAAAGAGAGAAGGGACAAUGCUACUAUAUUUUUCCACACUUGUGCUUCAUGUUAGCACAUUGUUCUUGAUGAUUGAGAGCUUCUUGCUUUGUCACUACCAUAUGCUAGUGGGAAUCUUCAUUAUAUAACUUGGCUUGCAUAUUCCAAUGAUGGGCUUCCUCAAAAUUGCCCUAGGUCUUCGUGAGCAAGCAAGUUGGAUGCACACCCACUAGUUUUCCUUUUGAGCUUUCACAUACUUAUAGCUCUAGUGCAUCUCUUGUAUGGCAAUCCCUACUCAUUCACAUUGAUAUCUAUUAAUGGGCAUCUCCAUAGCCUUUUGAUACACCGAGCCAAUGUGACCAUCUCCUCCUUUUUGUCUCACAACCACCACCAUACUCUAUUCUACCUAUAGUGCUAUAUCCAUGGCUCGCGCUCAUGUAUUGCGUGAUAGUUAUAAAAAGUUUGUGAAAGUAAGAGUGCGAAAACAAUUACUUGGCCAAUACCGGGGUUGUGCAUGAUUUCCAUUAGUUGUGUGAGGAUGAUGGAGCAUAGCCAGACUAUAUGAUUUUGUAGGGAUAACAUUUUUUGGCCUUGUUAUUUUGAAAGUUCAUGAUUACUUUGCUAGUUGUCUUGAAGUAUUACCGUUUUCAUGUCAAUAGCAAACUAUUGUUUCGAAUCUUACGGAUCUGAACAUUCAUGUCACGUGAAAGAAGUUGCAAAGGACAACUAUGCUAGGUAGCAUUCCACAUCAAAAAUUCAUUCUUUUUCACUUCCCUACUCGAGGACGAGCACGAGUUAAGCUUGGGGAUGCUUGAUACGUCUCCAACAUAUCUAUAAUUUUUGAUGGUUCCAUGCUAUUACCUUGUCAAACUUUGGAUGUUUUAUAUGCAUGAAUAUGCUAUUUUAUAUCUUUUUUGGGAUUAACCUAUUAACUCAGUGCGAAGUGCCAGUUUCUGUUUUUUCCGUGUUUUUUACCCUUUUUUAGACGGAGCCCAAAUGGAAUGAAACUUUACAAUGAUUUUUUUGGACCAAAAGAGACCCCCGAAGCUUUGGACGAAGGCCAGAAGAUCCACGAGGGAGUCACAAGCCCAUGGAGCGCGGCCUACCCCCCUGGUCGCACCGUGCGGGCUUGUGACCUCCUCGUGGGCCCAACUGACGCAAUUCCACCGCCAUAAAUUCCUAUAAAUUCAGAAACCUCCAAAAAUAAACCUAGAUCAGGAGUUCCGCCGCCGCAAGCCUGUGUCGCCACCAAAAACCAAUCGGGAGCUCGUUCCGGCACCCUGUCGGAGGGGGAAUCCAUCUCCGGUGGCCAUCUUCAUCAUCCCGGCGAUCUCCAUGACGAGGAGGGAGUAGUUCUCCCUCGGGGCUAAGGGUAUGUACCGGUAGCUAUGUGUUUGAUCUCUCUCUCUCGUGUUCUUGAGAUGUCUUGAUCUCGAUGUACCGUGGGCUUUGCUACUAUAGUUGGAUCUUCUGAUGUUCUUCCCCCUCUCCCUUCUUGUAAUGAAUUGAAUUUCCCCUUUGAAGUUAUCUUAUCGGAUUGAGUCUUUGAGAACACUUGAUGUAUGCCUUGCACGUGUCUAUCUGUUGUGAUCAACGUGCGGGUUUGUGACAAUUGGGAACCUAUUCAUAUGGGUUGUCACACGUGGAUUCAUGUCAGUACUCGAUGUAUGUUUUGGUGAUCAACUUGCGGGUUCGUGACAUUGGGAACCUAUGCAUAGGGGUUGGCACACGUUUUGACUCUCUGGUAGAAACAUUGGGGCACUCUUUGAAGUUCUAUGUGUUGGUUGAAUAGAUGAUUGUGAGACUGUGUGAUGCAUAUCGUACAAUCAUGCCCACGGAUACUUGAGGUGACAAUGGAGUAUCUAGGUGACAUUAGGGUCUUGGUUGAUAUGUAUCUUAAGGUGUUAUUCUAGUACGAACUCUUGAAUAGAUCGAUCAGAAAGAAUAACUCUAUGGUGGUUUCGUACCCGACAAUAAUCUCUUCGUUUGUUCUCCGCUAUUAGUGACUUUGGAGUGACUCUUUGUUGCAUGUUGAGGGCUAGUUAUAUGAUCCAAUUAUGUUAUCUUUGUUGAGAGAACUUCACUAGUGAAAGUAUGAACCCUACGCCUUGUUUCCACGCAUUGCAAUACCGUUCGUGCUCACUUUUGUUACUUGUUACCUUGUUGUUUUUGUAAUUUCAGAUUACAAAAACCUAUAUCUACCAUCAGUAUUGCACUUGUAUCAACAUCUCUUCGCCGAACUAGUGCACCUAUACAACUUACCAUUGUAUUUGGUGUGUUGGGGACACAAGAGACUCUUUGUUAUUUGGUUUCAGGGUUGCUUGAGAGAUACCAUCUUCAUCCUACGCCUCCCGCGGAUUGAUAAACCUUAGGUCACCCACUUGAGGGAAAAUUGCUAUUGUUCUACAAACCUCUGCACUUGGAGGCCCAACAACGUCUACAAGGAGAAGGUUGCGUAGUACACAUCAAGCAUUUUUCUGGCGCCGUUGCUAGGGAGGCUAGGUAAGCGGCACUCACCUCCCGUCAACGAAGUAUUUUUCUGGCGCCGUUGCCGGGGAGGUUAGCGCUUGAAGGUAUAUCUUUAGAUCUUGCAAUCAAAUCUUUUUGUUUCUUGUUCUUUCGCUAGAAAACAAAAAAAUAGAAUUGAGGAUGCCUCAUAUGCUCCAUCUUUUCAAUGUCUUUCGUGAGCAUGAUGGGAAGGAAAAUUGUGCUCAAGUGCUUAAAGAAGAAUUACAUAGAAUGCUUGGCAUAGAAUAUGUGAAUGAUGAGCAUGAUUGCAAUGUUCUUAGCAUGAAUUCUUUUAAUACCCAUGAUGCUAAUGAUAUGCAAAGCCACAAGCUUGGGGAUGCUAUAUUUGAUGAAGAUGAUCUUUUUAGAUCUUCCACUUUGAAUGAUCAAAAUCAUUUUGAUGAAAGCAUGCCGCCUAUCUAUGAUGAUUAUUGUGAGGAUACUUAUGCUUUGAAGAAGAUGGAUGAUAAAAUUUGUCAUACUUUCGAAAACCCCUUUGCUAAACCUUGCUUUUUCAUUGUGGACACAAUUUGUAGUGCUCAAGUCUUUUACGAUACUCCCACUACUAUUCUUGAGAAUAGAUUUCCUUAUGUGGAGAGUAGUAAAAUUCCUAUGCUUGUAGAUCAUGAAAAGAAAGCCUUGGGUGAUGGUUAUAUUGUUGAAUUCAUUCAUGAUGCUACUGAAAAUUACUAUGAGAGAGGAUCAUAUGCUUCUACUUAUUGCAAUAGUAUCAAGCUUCCUCUCCAUGUGUUGAAUUUUUGAAUCUAUGCUUGUUUUGCCUUCCUAUGCUAGUUGAUUAUUGCUCCAAUAAAUUGUUUGAUCACAAAAUCCCUAUGCAUAGGAAGUGGGUUAGACUUAAAUGUGCUAGCCACAUGCUCCAUGAUGCUCUCGUUGUGUUUCAAUCCUUACCUUUUAUGUGAGCAUCAUUGAAAUCAAUGCCUAGCUAAGGACGUUAAACAAUAGCGCUUGUUGGGAGGCAACCCAAUGAAUUUAUUUUUGCUUUUUGCUUUCUGUUUUGUUUUUCACACACCAUCAUAAUUCUGUUAUGAUUGUGUUUUUGUGUUUCUUUUUGUGUUUGUGCCAAGUAAAGCCUUUAUGAUAGCUUGGGUGAUAGUUGUUUGAUCAUGCUGGAAAAAGACUGAAACUUUCUGCUCACAAAAUUAUUGUUCAUUUCUAUUCAAAAAGAGCUUUUGAGUUGAUUCUUUUUGCUGCUGAUUGAUAUGCUGUUUGCCUAGACCUUCGUAAUUUUUAAGAUUGUUUGAGGUACCAGAAGUAUACCAAGUAUACAAAUUGCUACAGACUGGUCUGUUUUUGAAAGAUUUUGUUUUUGUUGAGUUGGUUGGUUGUUUUGAUGAAACUAUGGUUAGUAUCAGGGGGUACAAGCCAUGGAAAAGUGAGAAUACAGUAGCCCAUCACCAAUAUAGAUAGAAUUCAAGUUUUCUACAGUACCAAAAGAAGUGGUAGUUUGUUUUCUUGUAGUAAUGUUAUCACAAGUUUCUGUUUAAGUUUUGUGUUGUGAAGUUUUCAAGUUUUGGGUGAUGUUCUCAUGGACAAAGAGAUAAGGAGUGGUAAGAGCUCAAGCUUGGGGAUGCCCAAGGCAUCCCAAGCCAAAUUCAAGGACACCAAAAUGCCUAAGCUUGGUGAUGCCCCGGGAAGGCAUCCCCUCUUUCGUCUUCAAUCCAUCAGUAACGUUACUUAGAGCUAUAAUUUUAUUCACCACAUGAUAUGUAUUGUUCUUGGAGCGUCUUGUAUCUUAGGAGUUUUUCCUUUUUGUUUGGUCACAAUAAUCCUUGCUGCACACCUUUUUGAGAGAGAGAGAGAUGCACUUAUCGUGAUUUUGCUAGAAUGCUCAUUGUGCUUCACUUAUAUCUUUUGAGCUAGAUACUUUUGCUCUUGUGCUUCACUUAUAUCUUUUGAGCUAGAUACUUUUGCUCUUGUGCUCCACUUAUAUCUUGUGAUCAACUUGCGGGUUUGUGACAAUUGGGAACCUAUGCAUAUGGGUUGGCACACGUGGAUUCAUGUGAGUACUCGAUGUAUGUUUUGGUGAUCAACUUGCGGGUUCGUGACAUUGGGAACCUAUGCAUAGGGGUUGGCACACGUUUAGACUCUCCAGUAGAAACUUUGGGGAACUCUUUGAAGUUCUAUGUGUUGGUUGAAUAGAUGAUUCUGAGAUUGUGUGAUGCAUAUCGUAUAAUCAUACUCAUGGAUACUUGAGGUGACAAUGGAGUAUCUAGGUGACAUUAGGGUCUUGGUUGAUAUGUACCUUAAGGUGUUAUUCUAGUACGAACUCUUGAAUAGAUCGAUCAGAAAGAAUAACUUUAUGGUGGUUUCGUACCCGACAAUAACCUCUUCGUUUGUUCUCCGCUAUUAGUGACUUUGGAGUGACUCUUUGUUGCAUGUUGAGGGCUAGUUAUAUGAUCCAUUUAUGUUAUCUUUGUUGAGAGAACUUCACUAGUGAAAGUAUGAACCCUAGGCCUUGUUUCCAUGCAUUGCAAUACCGUUCGUCCUCACUUUUGUUACUUGUUACCUUGCUGUUUUUGUAAUUUCAGAUUACAAAAACCUAUAUCUACCAUCCAUAUUGCACUUGUAUCGCCAUCUCUUCGCCGAAGUAGUGCACCUAUACAACUUACCAUUGUAUUGGGUGUGUUGGGGACACAAGAGACUCUUUGUUAUUUGGUUGCAGGUUUGCUUGAGAGAGACCAUCUUCAUCCUACGCCUCCUGCGGAUUGAUAAACCUUAGGUCACCCACUUGAGGGUAAAUUGCUACUGUUCUACAAACCUCUGCAGUUGGAGGCCCAACAACGUCUACAAGGAGACGGUUGCGUAGUAGACAUCAGCACUGUCUAGAGUUUUACUAGCAUAGUGAAUAACAUUCAACUUAUUAUCGACUCUUUGCCCUAUUACAGCACCAACAGCAUAAUCACUAGCGUCACACAUGAUUUCAAAAGGCAAGUUCCAAUCAGGUGGUUGAACAAUAGGUGCGGUUAUCAAAGCCCUCAUAAGUAUUUAGAAGGUUUCCUCACAAUCAUCAUCAAAAACAAAAGGAAUAUCCUUUUGCAAGAGAUUGGUAAGAGGCCUAGAAAUCUUAGAGAAGUCUUUAAUGAACCUUCUAUAGAAACUAGCAUGACCAAGGAAACUUCUUAUACCUUUGAUAUCUAUGGGGUAUGGCAUUUUCUCGAUUGCAUCAACCUUAGCCUUAUCGACUUCAAUACCUCUUUCAGAAAUUUUAUGUCCUAAGACGAUGCCUUCAUUAACCAUAAAGUGGCACUUCUCCCAAUUCAAGACAAUAUUGGUGUCUUUACAUCUCUGCAAGACUCGAUCAAGGUUGCUGAGGCAAUUGUCAAAGGAAAACCCGUAUACGGAGAAGUCAUCCAUGAAAACCUCAACAAUCUUUUCACAAAAGUCAGAGAAUAUAGCCAUCAUACAUCUUUGAAAGGUGGCAGGUGCAUUACAUAAGCCAAAAGGCAUACGUCUAUAAGCAAAGGUACCGAAAGGGCAGGUGAAAGUGGUUUUCUCCUGAUCAGAUUGUGCAACUGGUAUUUGGGAGAAACCAGAAUAACCGUCUAGAAAGCAGAAGUGCGUGUGUUUGGACAGCCUUUCUAGCAUUUGGUCGAUAAAAGGCAAUGGGUAAUGAUCUUUCCUAGUGGCUUUAUUCAGUUUCCUAAAAUCGAUCACCAUCCUAUAGCCAGUAAUAAUCCUCUGUGGGAUUAAUUCAUCCUUAGCAUUAGGGACAACGGUAAUGCCUCCCUUCUUAGGGACGCAAUGCACCGGACUCACCCAAUCGCUAUGAGCAACAGGAUAGAUAAUACCCGCUUCCAGGAGUUUAGUAUUUCUUUUCUCACUACUUCUUUCAUCCUAGGAUUCAAUCUCCUUUGAUGAUCCGCAACUGGUUUGAAGUCGGGAUCGGUUUUAAUCUUGUGCUGGCAUAGAGUAGGACUAAUGCCCUUAAGAUCAUCAAGAGUAUAUCCAAUAGCAGCACGGUGCUUCCUUAGAGUUUUUAGCAACUUCUUUUCUUCAUGCUCUGAGAGGCUAGCACUAAUAAUGACAGGAUAUAUCUCCUUUUCAUCAAGAUAGGCAUACUUAAGAGUAUCAGGCAACUGUUUAAGCUCGAACUCAGGAUCACCCUUUGGUGGGGGUGGAUCCCCAAGCAGUUCAAUAGGAAGAUUAUUCUUAAGGAUAUGAUAUUGUUCUAAGACAACUCUAUCUAUCUCAUCCAUUUCAUCCAUAUGCAUAUCAUUUUCAUGCUCAAGCAAGUAUUGCUCUAAGGGAUUAGUAGGAGGCACGGCCAUAGAAGCUAAGGCAAUAGUUUCAUCCCUACUAGGCAACUCCUUUUCAUGAGGAUGUCUACCAAACUUAGAGAAAUUGAACUCGUGUGACACACCUUCAGAGCCAACAGUGACAGUUUGCUUCUCACAAUCAAUAUGAGCAUUGACAGUAUUGAGGAAGGGCCUGCCAAAUAUGAUGGGACAAAAGCUAUCUUGUGCGGUAGCAAGAACGAGGAAAUCAGCAGGAUACUUCGUUUUACCACACAAGACUUCAACAUCCCUAACAAUUCCCAGAGGGCAGAUAGUAUCUCUAUUGGCAAGAUGAAUAGUGACAUCAAUAGGUUCUAUCUCAACAGGUGCAAUCUCAUCUUUGAUUUCAUCGUAUAAGGAUUGAGGUAUUGCACUAACACUAGCACCCACGUCACAUAAACCAUGAUAACAAUGAUCUCCUAUCUUAACAGAAACCACAGGCAUGCCAACAACAGGCGUAUGUUUGUCUCUAGCGUGAGGUUUAACAAUUCUAGCAGCAUCUUCAUAGAAGUGAAUAUUAUGUCCCUCAACAUCGUCGGACAGAAGAUCUUUGAUAAUAGCAAUGCUAGGUUAAACUUUAAUUUACUCAGGGGGUGUAGGUGUUCUAAUAUAGCCUCUACGUAUCAUAGUUGAAGCUUUAGAAUGAUCCUUUAUCCUAACAGGGAAAGGUGGUUUCUCAAUGUAAGCAGUGGGAACAACAGGAUCAUUAUAGGCAAUGACUUUCUCUUCAACUGGAGUGGGUUUAACUACAUUGACUUCUAAAGGAGGAUGAUAUUUAAACCACUUCUCUUUGGGGAGAUCAAUAUGAGCAGCAAAGGAUUCACACAAUGAAGCUACUAUCUCAGAGUCAAGUCCAUACUUAGCGCUAAAAUCACUAAAGGUAGUUGUCUCAACAAAGGAUUUAACGCAAUCAAACGUGAAAUGCAUACCUGACUCCUUACCUUCUUCAAGCUCCCAAUCUUCAGAGUUGCGUUCAAUUCUCUCCAAUAAAUUCCAUUUGAAGUCAAUAUCUCUCUUCAUAAAAGAACCGGUACAAGAAGUGUCAAGCAUGGUGCGAUCAUCAUGAGAAAGCUGAGCAUAGAAGUUCUGAAUGAUAAUUUCUCUCGAGAGCUCAUGAUUGGGGCAUGAAUAUAGCAUUGAUUUAAGCCUCCCCCAAGCUUGAGCGAUGCUUUAUCUGUCACGAGGCCAAAAAUUAUAAAUAUAAUUCUGAUCACGAUGUACUAAAUGCAUAGGAUAAAUUUUUUGAUGAAAUUCCAAUUUCAACCGAUUGUAGUCCCAUGAUCCAGUAUCAUCACAUAGCCUAUACCAUGUCAACGCCUUAUCCUUAAAAGAUAAAGGAAAUACCUUCUUCUUGACCUCAUCCUUGGGCACACCUGCAAGCUUAAAUAAACCACGAACUUCAUCUACAUAGAUUGGAUGCAAGUCUGGAUGUGAUGUUCCAUCUCCUGUAAAAGGAUUAGCCAGCAGUUUCUCAAGCAUACCCGAAGGAAAUUCAAAGCAAAUAUUUUCAGUAGGUGCAGCAGGUUGAGCAGAAACUAUUUGUGCUUCCGUUCGAGGUGAAGAUAGCCCAAACAAGCCCCUCAAAGGAUUAGUAUCCAUAGUGACAAGUGACAAUAAAUUUCAGCACACUAUAUGAAUGUUUCCUUACUAAGUUCCACUUACCGAAGGCGCUUCACUCCCCUGCAACGGUGCCAGAAAAGAGUCUUGAUGACCCACAAGUAUAGGGGAUCAAUCGUAGUCCUUUUGAUAAGUAAGAGUGUCGAACCCAACGAGGAGCAGAAGGAUCUGACAAGUGGUUUUGAGCAAGUAAAAAUCUGCAAGCACUGAAAUUGUCGGUAACAAGUGAUUGUGUGGUGAGAUGAUUCGUAGCAAGCAACAAGUAACAAAAGUAGCAAGGGUGCAGAAAAGUGGCCCAAUCCCUUUUGUAGCAAGGGACAAGCCUGGACAAAGUCUUAUAGGAGGAAAAACGCUCCCGAGGACACACGGGAAUUUCUGUCAUGCUAGUUUCAUCAUGUUCAUAUGAUUCACGUUCGUUACUUUGAUAGUUUGAUAUGUGGGUGGACUGGCGCUUGGGUACUGCCCUUACUUGGACAAGCAUCCCACUUAUGAUUAACCCCUCUCGCAAGAAUCCGCAACUACGAAAGAAGAAUUAAGACAAAGUCUAACCAUAGCAUUAAACUAGUGGAUCCAAAUCAGCCCCUUACGAAGCAACGCAUAAACUAGGGUUUAAGCUUCUGUCACUCUAGCAACCCAUCAUCUACUUACUACUUCCCAAUGCCUUCCUCUAGGCCAAAAUAAUGGUGAAGUGUUAUGUGGUCGACGUUCACAUAACACCACUAGAGGAAAAACAACAUACAACAUAUCAAAAUGCCGAAUGAAUACCAAAUUCACAUGACUACUAUUAGCAUGACUUAUCCCAUGUCCUCAGGAACAAAAGUAACUACUCACAAAGCAUAAUCAUAUUCAUGACCGGAGAGGUAAUGAGUACCAUCAAGGAUCUGAACAUAAACUCUUCCACCAAGUAAUCCAACUAGCAUCAACUACAAAGAGUAAUCAACACUACUAGCAACCUUACAAGUACCAAUCGGAGUCUCGAGACGGACAUUGGUUACAAGUGAUGAACUAGGGUUUGGAGAUGAGUUGGUGCUGAUGAAGAUGUUGAUGGUGACAAGUCCCCUCCGAUGAGAGAAGUGUUGGUGAUGACGAUGGCGACGAUUUCCCCCUCCGGGAGGGAAGUUUCCCUGACAGGAUCGUCCUACCGGAGCUCUAGAUUGGUUCUGCUCAAGUUCUGCCUCGUGGCGGCGGCGAAACCACGAAAAAGCUCCUCCCUGAUUUUUUUCUGGACGAAACCCUUCAUAUAGCAAAAGAGGGGGGGCAAGUGGGCCAGCAGGUUGCCCACAAGCCCUCAUGGCGCGGCCUGGGGGUGGUCGCGCCGUGCUGGCUUGUGGCGAACCCCUGGCGCCCCUCUGGCACUUCUUCGGCCCAGUAUUUUUGAUAAAUCAGGAAAAAAAUCCUCGUUGAUUUUUACGGCGUUUGGAGUUGCGCAGAAUAGGUAUCUCAACUUUGCUCCACUUUCAGGCCAGAAUUCCAGUUGCCGGCAUUCUCCCACUUCAUGUAAACCUUGCAAAGUAAGAGAGAAAAGGCAUAAGAAUUGUACCGUGAAGUGAAAUAACAGCCAAAGAAGCGAUAAAUAUCAACAUGAAAACAUGAUGCAAAAUGGACAUAUCUGCAUGCCCCACAUCCUUCCUAGCACUCUCUUGCUCUUGGGCAAAUAACUUUAUCUUAUCUCCUAUAGUUUGGGGAUUGUCUUGACAAGAGUAGUCCAUUGUGGUUAGAUACUGUCAGCUAGACAGUAUCCAUUGUUGUAUUGGUGGCCAUUGAUCUCAACAUUGACCUCCAAGAAAUUGCCUUCUGCCAUCCUAGCAAACACCAGAGAGCACUGGAGAAGAUUGAUAUCGUUCUGAGAUCUGUCCAUGCCGGAUAAAGAGGGCCAAAUCCAGAUAUCUUGGGAAGAAACUCCCUCAAGUAUGACAGUGCAAGAUCGGACAUGGCCCUUAUACUACCCUGCCAAGAAGAAGGACAAUUUUUUGACUUACAAUGCACACAAUUUAUGCUACCAAGUAUCCUCGGGGACAACCUGCUACCAUUCAUUGCAAUCAACCGUGUUGUAUCAGCAAUAGUUAGCUCUCUCAAGUACUUCGGCCCAAACACAGCUAUGACAGCCUUGCAAAACCUAUACAUGGACUCAAGCCAUGUGGACUCACUCAUAUGGACAUACUCAAAACACAGCUAUCACCAGGAACUCCAUAUGCAAGAAUCUGAAUGGUCGGAGUGCAUUUCUUAUAAGAGGAGAAGCCAAUCUUUCCAAGGGCAUAUGACUUGCACUCGAAAUAGUUAUCGUACCCCACCACCCCCUCCCGUAUACGGUUCAACACAUGCCUAGCCAUAUGAAAAUAGCGUUAGAACAUGUGAUGUUUGAAGAGCGGGUUGGGGUUCUCGAAGCAGUUGUUCCAAAGUAGGAAAUGGCAACUCUCCCGGUUGAGAUUCAGUGUCGCUGUGUGCCCCGGUAUCGAGCCCCUAAACUGCGGCCACUCCAAACUUAGGUCAUCAUGGACGACCAACGCAGCUACCACGAUCUCCUCAUCAUCGGAUGAAGAAUCAUCUGAAUCACAAAGAAUGUUAUAGAAAAAACUCAUCGUAGGAGUCCACUUGUACCUUGCGAGCAAACCGUCGAACAACUUGCAGGCGUCAUGGAAGAAGCCGACUGGUGAAGAGCCUCACGCCCCAUCGAGACAAAGUAGUGGACGAGGGCGGUGGCAACGUAAAUGUGGCAGUCCGGAGGGCUAUGGACGGAUGACUGGGGGCGCUGGUGGGAGGUGGGAAAGACGGGUGAGUCAGAGGCAAAGAGAGGAAGAGAAGACUGGCCUACAUGCCAACGACUAGUGGGCCGGGGGGAGAGAAGGGACGACGUCCGUCCGGUGUCCGUGCUGAUUCAAAUACGACCCAAAUUUGGGCCUGGAAUCGGUCAUAGGUACACAAAAACUGGACGUGUGUCCAUUUGGGUCGCCGCAUUGGGCCUGGUUUUGUAUGUGCCGUGACCCAAACGUACAGGCACAGACGAAAUGGAUCGUCCAAUUGGAGUUGCUCUUACUAAUCCAAUCUAGGAGCUUUGGUUCGAUACCAGCCUUCACUCCAUGUUCAAGAAGAGAUGUCAUGUCCAAAUUUACAACACCAAUUAGGAAAGGUUGACCCCUCCCCGAUGAAUAUAUUGAUGUUUCUAAUAAUACAUAUAUUAGUUCAAAGAACACCACUUCAAAUAAGAAAGGGUGUCCAAAUCAUUUACAAAUAGCGUCCAUACAUUGUCUAGUAUUUCGUCCAGGGAUCCAAUUAAUCAACAAAUAAGUUCAAAUCCUUUGACUCAAAUUAUAGGGAGAAAAAUAAGUGGUCUAUUUUCUCGUGUGAGCAUAGUUGUUUUCAUCCCGAGGACAAUGACAGUGCCUUCUAAGAGGAAUCUUUUGAGCGUUCAACCGAUAAAACAAUAGGAUCUAAGCAAAGAUCUUGAUCUUAAUGGUGCACUGUCAUAUCCAUUUGCAAGGUUCAUCCGUGGGCAGGUGCGUGCAUCAUGGAGUAGAAACUCUUCAAAGAAAAUGAUCCUCUUAACCAAGAACAAGUAAGUCAGGGUUGUGUUACAUUGAAGGCUUUGUAACCUACCAUCUAGAGGUUGCAAUACAUCCAUUGCCUCUAGAAAAAUUGGCAAGGGCAAAAGAUGGCUCAAUCAGGGGUUUCUACAAAAUAUUUAAUAGAAAUGUAGUCAUCCAAGGCAAAGAAAGGAGCUUUUCCAAAUGGUGUUGAAGAGAUCCAGGAGACGCAUCAAUCAACCAGGCAUCACACAAGGACAAGGAAGAGUCACCCAUAUUAACUUCCAUUAAUGAGAUGGCCAUGUAUUGAUCGUUAACUUCCAAAAUAUUCAUCCACGUUGCAACAAGUAUGACUCCAUGAUAGUAAGAAAUCCAUAUCAAAGUUUCCCAUGGAACGUGAGCUUUGUUAUAAAAUUUGCACCAAUGUUUUGUAAGCAAAGCUUGGUCUUGAAUAUGAUGGUUAAUGAUACCCAUACCGACCCAUAGCACCAUUAUCAUAUGGUUUGCAUACGAGGUGACAUGUUGCCAAUGGUUGCUAUGGGCUAUCAGCAUUGCCAUGCCAAAGACAUUAUGCUCAAUUCCCUGCAGUUGUUUAAUUAUACCAGGGGGUCUAGAGACUACAAAGAUAGUACAUGGCAGACCUCAGAAGUUUCAGUCUAGCACCUUGUGAGAGAUAGAGAAGAGCUAGCUACCAAUCUUCUUUUCAUUCUAUCAACCAAAGGCAUUCAGUCCUGGAUCUUUGGAGUAGUGUUACCCAUAGGUAAACCGGGUAAAUGAAAGGCAUCUUACCCAGUUGACACUCAAACAAACUACGCAACGAAAAGAUUCAUCGCCAAUCAUAUUUAUAAGCACCAUAGAGGAUUUAGAAAAAAUCACUUUCAAACGAGUGGAUUUAGAUAAAGAUUAAAAUAUUUCUUUUAGGUCAAGAAGUUGAGUAUCAAUAUCCAGCCUAAUCACCAUACUGCACAACUGAGAGUCUAGAUAAUGAGAUGGGAUUGGAAAAGAUACCACCCCAUGAUAAUACAUGUCAUUGAGAAUAGGCUGAAGUAAAUCCACUGCCAAGAAAAAUAAGUGGUAAUAGUGGGUCACCCUGUUGAAUCCUUGGUUUUCAUUGGAAUUGCCUACCAGCCACACCAUUCAAAAGGAUAGAAGGUGUUCCAUAGGAUAAGAUCUUCUUGAUCCAAGUGAUGGCACCCAUUUGUACACACUUUUAGAGCUCAUUUGUUGCCUAUCCUCCAUAUAGCAUGUUCUGUUGAGCCAAUUACAUGUCCAUAUGCAUGAUUUUCAUUAUUUAUCCUUUCCAUCACAAGGAUUGCAUAAUCGUAAUUCUUUGUUAGUGCUUAUUGGUUUUCUUUGUUUUUUGAGUGUUUUUAGGUGAUGUGGAAUUCCUAUCCACUUAACACGAUGAAAAGAAUCCAAAUGAAAGGGCAUCCACGCACCAGACUUAGGCAUUCGGUUUUUUAGUUGCUCAAAAUCAAUUUCUGAUAUUGUAGGUACAUCAGCGUUGUUCUCGUGAUUACAACGAGCAGAUGAACGUUGAAAACAAAGUUUGGAUGUUAAAGUUACUAUUUUACUGAAGAGUCCAAAGUGUUUAACGACCUUUGGUACGACCAAAAAUGCUCGUACCAUGCCCAGACAAGCUCGAAAGAUGCCCUUUCAAAUGGAAUUAUUCGAGGAUUUCAGGGGAUGUUUUGGGAAAGAGUUUGGCUUACCCAGAGCAGAUAGAUAAAAGUAGAUGCUACAUUAAUGAAGGAGGCUUUGGGAGGGUUCUUACAAAUAUACCUCCAACCCUAACAACCGGGGGACACCAUCCAUAUCCCUCUAUCCAUGUUCAAUUGUCAUCCUCAACAAGAAGCAAUUGGGGGUUGUGCCAAACCUAUGUAUCCAUUGUUGCAACCUUGGAAGAUGAUCGGGAGGGAGCCAUGCCGGAAAAAGCAUCGUCGAGGGCCGGCGCGGUCAUGCACCGUCACCGCCACAUCAUCCUCACCUACACCCCUUCUCCUUCCCCAUCACGGUCUACGCAAUGGGUUGUAACAACUCUUGAACCCCUUAUAUGUGAUGUUAUUUGCGUAAUUCUAGGCUAUAUAUCGGUUGGCUAGUAAGCAUUUAUUUUAUACUCGUCGUCUAUUUAUGUCUAUCAUCUUCAUGUUAUUAUUUACCCUUGCGGUAAUUUAGUGAUUGGAGCCGUCCAACCCAUUAGUGUAGUUAGAUACGUUCAACUCCCUAGUUCACACAUGAAGUUGAUAGACAGUUUUGCAUAUCGAGAGACCUUUGGGUGACACGCAUCGAUAUAUUGAGGGGAACACAAUUAUACUAGGGAUCAAACUUGUCCGUAGAACUUAAUACCUUCGGUUCGGGCCUUAUGAUAUUAAUCCCUUUCCGUUGUCCACUGUCGAUAUGGGACAAGAAAUAGGAAGAUUGAGAUUAUGCAAUACGACGAUUCUUGAGAGAUAAUGUUAUGUGAGGUGCUGCGGAACAUUCAACAAUCCUCAUAUCAUAUAAUGCAAGGUACAUACUUAAUUGUAGGUUUUAAUAGUUGAGCUAUAGAUCUUUUUGUCCUACCCACUAAUGUUUAAAACAAGUUAUGGAGUAGCUCAACUCCAUUGUCACACAGAGUUGCCAAAAAAGUUGAGAUAUGGAGCUUUUCCUUUCGUCCCUAUGCACAAAGUUGAAAAAAUCACAUCAAGGUUAAUGGACCACCCAACGACCAUCGCCUCCGCCAAAGCGAGCACAUAAUGCGCCGUUGUCUUUUCUCCCACACAGGAGCUAGCAUGGUCAUGUCCAUGACAAACAUGAAGUCUUCAUGCACGUGCCCCUAAGCACCUGUGUUCUGGAGCCACAGUCAUCGUUAUUGAAUCCCUUAAUCGGUUCAAAGAACCUGACACCAAAUCUCGAUAUGCACACGCAUGCAAGAAAUCCUAACCGCACCAGCCGAGGGACUGGAAGGAAUCUAUGUUGGAGCUCCAUCUAAUCCUUCGUGGUAGACGAACUUCAAGAGGAUCGAAUCCCAAAAAUCUGACCCGAAGAAGAAGCAUAACCAUCCAUCCCAGCACCGUCCCUGUGAAGGCUAAACUCCUACCUAUGUACUAGACGGUGUUGAGGCACCUGACAUCCCCUUCCUGCCCAGGGGAGUCAUAUGCGUAGGCUCGCCGACGGAUAUCGAGGGGAUGAAAGCUUUCCCUAGUCGCCUUGGGAGAGAGGAAAGCAAUUGUUCUACAUGUGGACGGUUACUAUGCUAGUUUAGUUAAUUAUACCAAGAAAACACAUAUUUUAUUUUGAGAAACAUUGUACAAAUGUAGACAUUCAAAUACAUGCAUGUACACCACCCCUUUCAAUGCGCACAAGGACACUCUACCCCUAUGAAUAUUUUCAAGAGAGCUAGCCGGCAUACAUUAUGAUAAAAUGCAAAAUAUUUUUCCCACACCAUGAAAUGGCAUCCUCAAACAAUUGGUAAUCAAGAAACCUUGUGCUUAAAAUGAAACCGAAAACAAGGAACGCUGGAAAAAGGAUGUGUGGCAACCACCCUAUGACACGAAGGACUGAAACUUCCAGCACACACAAUGCAUCCGACGGCCACACAACCUUCGAAAUGGAUAUGGCAGUGCCUUCAACAAGGCCAUUCUAACGUACAACAAAUAAAGUCUGUGUUCAGCAAAACAAUGUCUUCAACAAGCCCAUUGCCAGAUACAACCAAUAAAGGCCAGACCAUUAGUUUUCACCUUGGGAAUCAAAACUCGGUACUCGAGGAGCACCACAAAAAUUGCAGUCCUCCAGUGUUGCCGCCCCCACUUGCCAAGAUCACUGUUGCAAUUCACCAAACACCUGGCACAGAAUCUUCAUCGCAUCCAAUACACCCUUCCGUCAAAGCUUAAGACCUCCAAUCACAACGGCUAUGACUUGCUCCACCUGUAUCCAUGCCCAUGACACCCGUAAGAAAUCGAAGCUUCGCGCCACGCCGCCUCGAGGCUGUGUUGGAUUAUAAUAUUAGCGCACGCAACCGGGGCCUUUCCGGUCUAGAUAUCCAGGGCAACAUACGUCAAUUUGUAUAGAUCUCCGAGGGGGAAGACCGGAAUGCGUCAGCGACCAGAUCCAUGAGGUCGACAUUCGGUAGAAAGAUAACUUGGCGGAACAAAAGCGCUAUGGCCAAAGCACCAUUGUUAGGCCGAACCACACUAACCCGCCUCCAAAGAAAACAAGCAGCUCCGCACGAGGCCGGACGCUCCAGCCACCGCACCGAGCACCACUCCGAGAACCACACCCCUGAACAACCUCCACCUUACGAAGCCAUGGCGCCAGGUCUCGAAUCCGGCCGCUCCCGGUGAGGGACAAGUCAUCGGACAGCGUAGCAUCAAGCAGCGGCUAUGCAUGCACUCUGGUCUAGUCGGUCCUGGGUGAUCACGAUGUUCAUCCACGUGAUUGCCAUGGCACUGGGAGGUCAUGGUUGAUCGCAUCAUUUUGCAGGGUGCUUCAUCAUCAUGAAAUGAAUGAAUAUGUGUCUUCCUUUUUUGUGGGCUAGAUUCAGCGAUGAUACAAAAUCAUGAUGGACUCACCAUACGUAGUUUAUGAGUUCACUGGGGACGACAUGGACAGAGCAAAAUAGACAACAGAGGGUUCUAAAACUUUAGCUAUGGAUUAAAACAAAGUUUUACCUUGCUUGGACACCCAAUUAAGUAGCAUUUCUACUCGCAAAAAAAAUAGCAUUUCCAAUAAAAAAUCCUAAACUCAACCAUGCUUGGCCACAACUUUCCCACCUCAAUAACUGGGUUCUCUUUGUCAUACAAACAAACUAGCUCAUUAUCAUUUGUAUCAUCCACAUCAUCUGCAACCAUUCUCAUCAGCUCUUGUUCAUCCUCAUUUGCAUUUCUAGGCCCGUGUUACCAUCAGCGGGCAAAGAAUUGUCAUCCUUCUCCUUAUCUUUGUCAUCAACUUGAAUGCCAAACAUUUCAGCCAUAUCAAUGUCACAUAUUGGUGCAAUGAACAAAUCUGUUUUUUCAUUGAACUCUACUACAUUCCAGUCAACAACAAUCUUCCUAGCACCAUGGGUUCCCUCCUCUCCAUCUGCAUCAAUAUCUGUAUCAUCAUCUAGUACAGUCGGUUCAGUCAACAAUGCCAACAUACUAUUCUUUUGUGAAACCCACACAUCAUCUUCCAACUGUGCAGCCAUCUUUGAUGGCACAUAAUCAACUCUGGAAUUAGUUUGCAGAUCAAUUAGCUCUGCAUAAAAUGUUACUUGUUUGCAUGCCCACCCUUCUUGCUGAUCAAUUUCAGCAACCAUGGAUUCUCCAUCUUCAAUUCUGACAUAUUCACCAUAAUAGUUGUCGAAACGUUGCAGAGAUAUCUCUUGUUCUGGACCCCAAACAAUACUCUCCCCAAUUCUCUCCACCAAAUUGCCCACGGCCUUCUCCUUCAUGCUCUCUAAUUCCUGGGGAUCAACAUCUGCACUUCGACAUCCAACCUCACGGAGGUAUCUCUAUAAAUGUCUUGGACACUGCCAUCACUAAGCUUGGCUUUACAGGGAAAAAAUGCACUAUAAUUGCGAAUAUGGUGGUAGAACCAGAACCUCCCCUGUUUUGUCAAUGGCGGGCAGCGGCAGUGUAAGCUACGGUCACUAUCAAAUCGAGUUUGAUAACAGCUAAAAGAGAAAAGAGGGAGGGGCGGCAUUACCGAUUUGAAGCACUGUCUCCUCGCUCCAUCUAAUUCAGCCCACGCGCUCCUAUCCAAUCGAGAUUCUAAAUCGUCAAGAAACAGAGCAUGAGGCCACAGAUCUAUCCAAAAAUCUGGGGAAUGGGACUAGGGUUUCGAAAAUACUCACUCGCAAUAGCUCUGCCGCUGCCGAGAAAGGCGCUCCACCACCGCGGAGAAGAAACUGCUACCUCUGCCGGAGAAGAUGCACACGGCGGCGCUGCUCGCCCAGUCGUGCACGGUCGGGUCGAGUAUGGUCACACAGUCACCGAUCGAGUAGUGGACGGUUGACUCUUGACGACGUGGCCAUAGGUGGACCCCGCCAGUCAGAACACAUUCGUAACCAAAUCUCAGCCUAACUAACAGCCAGCCAGCCCCGUAAACGGGUUGUGUUGCUUGAGCUAUUUCUGCGCUGGAAGAUGUCGCAUGAGAGCCAUUACAACCAACGACGUCGCAUGAGAGAUAAUUCAACUCAACGACGUCGCAUGGGAGCUAAUGGCCCCUUCCUUUUUUGUGGGCUAGAUUCAACGAUGAUACAAAAUCAUGAUGGACUCACCAAACAUAAUUUAUGAGUUCACUGGGGACGACAUGGACAGAGCAAAAUGGACAACAGAGGAUUCUAAAACUUUAGCUAUGGAUUAAAACAAAGUUUUACCUUGCUUGGACACCCAAUUAAGUAGCAUUUCUACUCGCAAAAAAAAUAGCAUUUCCAAUAAAAAAUCCUCCAGGGCAUGUAAAUGAUUAGGCUUAGAAAAUAGUANNNNNNNNNNNNNNNNNNNNNNNNNNNNNNNNNNNNNNNNNNNNNNNNNNNNNNNNNNNNNNNNNNNNNNNNNNNNNNNNNNNNNNNNNNNNNNNNNNNNUGGUCAGGAAACCUUGACCAUCUUUGAUCAACGAGCUAGUCAACUAGAGGCUUACUAGGGACAGUGUUUUGUCUAUGUAUCCACACAAGUAUUGUGUUUCCAAUCAAUACAAUUAUAGCAUGGAUAAUAAACGAUUAUCAUGAACAAAGAAAUAUAAUAAUAACUAAUUUAUUAUUGCCUCUAGGGCAUAUUUCCAACAAACUCUGCUCCCCAAAAGGAUUCAUGCCAUCUGUACUCAGACCUAACCAUAAGUUCCUUGCGUCAGCUGCAAAUCUCGGGAACUCUCUCUCAAUUUUUCUCCACUGCCGACCAUCAGCGCUGUGCCUCAACUUAUCGUCUUUCAUACGAUCUUCCAUGUGCCAUCGCAACAACUUCGCAUGAUCUUUAUUUCUGAACAGACGUUUCAACCGUGCUAUUAUAGGAGCAUACUGUUGGAAAUAUGCCCUAGAGGCAAUAAUAAAAUGGUUAUUAUCAUAUUUCCUUGUUCAUGAUAAUCGUCUAUUGUUCAUGCUAUAAUUGUAUUAACAGGAAACAGUAAUACAUGUGUGGAUAAAUAGAUCACAAUGUGUCCCUAGCAAGCCUCUAGUUGGCUAGCUCGUUAGUCAAUAGAUGAUCAUGGUUUCCUGAUCAUGGACAUUGGAUGUCAUUGAUAACGGGAUCACAUCAUUGGGAGAAUGAUGUGAUGGACAAGACCCAAUCCUAAGCCUAGCACUAGAUCGUAUUGUUCGUAUGCUAAAGCUUUUCUAAUGUCAAGUAUCUUUUCCUUCGACCGUGAGAUUGUGCAACUCCCGGAUACCGUAGGAGUGCUUUGGGUGUAUCAAAUGUCACAACGUAACUGGGUGACUAUAAAGGUGCACUACGGGUACCUCCGAAAGUGUCUGUUGGGUUGGUACGAAUCGAGAUCGGGAUUUGUCACUCCGUGUGACGGGGAGGUAUCUCUGGGCCCACUCGGUAGAACAUCAUCAUGAGCCCAAUGUGACUAAGGAGUUAGUCACACGAUGACGUGCUACGGAACGAGUAAAGAGACUUACCGGCAACGAGAUUGAACAAGGUAUGGGUAUACCGACGAUCGAAUCUCGGGCAAGUUCUAUACCGACAGACAAAGGGAAUCGUGUACGGGAUUGAUUGAAUCCUUGACAUCGUGGUUCAUCCGAUGAGAUCAUCGUGGAGCAAGUGGGAGCCACAAUGGGUAUCCAGACCCCACUGAUGGUUAUUGGCCAGAGAGGUGUCUCGGUCAUGUCUGUCUGUCUCCCGAACCCGUAGGGUCUACACACUUAAGGUUCGAUGAUGCUAGGGUUAUAGGGAAUUGUUAUACGAGGUUACCGAAAGUUGUUCGGAGUCCCGGAUGAGAUCCCGGAAGUCACGAGGAGCUCCGGAAUGGUCCGGAGGUAAAGAUUAAUAUAUAGGACGGAUGGUUUCGGAUAACGGAAGUGUUUCGGGCAUCACCGGUAACGUACCGGGACCACCGGAGGUGGCCCCGGGGGACCACCGAAGGGGGCAACGACCCCGGGAGGUAAGGUGGGCCAAGUGGGGGUGGGAAGCAGCCCCUAGGUGGGCUGCUGCGCCUCCCCACUCGGCCCAUUGCGCAAGGGAGAGAAAAGGGGGGCAAACCCUAAGCCAGGUGGGCCUAAGGCCCACCAGUUGGUGCGCCACCCCCUCCUCCCCCUUCUGGCCGCCGCACCACCCAUCUGGGAGGGCUGCCGCACCCCCUAGGGUGGGAACCCUAGGGGUGGCACCCCCUCUCCCCUUCCCCUAUAUAUAGUGGGCACUUUUGGCCAUUGGAGAUCCGACUUUUCCCUCUCCCUCGGCGCAGCCCUGCUCUUCUUCCUCCUCCUCUCUGCCGGUGCUUGGCGAAGCCCUGCCGGGAGACCUCGCCUCUCCAUCGACACCACGCCGUCGUGUUGCUGGAGUUCUUCCCCAACCUCUCCCUCCUCCUUGCUGGAUCAAGGUGCGGGAGACGUCACCGGGAUGCACGUGUGUUGAACGCGGAGGUGCCGUUGUUCGACACUAGAUCGGAAUCGUUACGAGUACGACUCCAUCAACCGCGUUCUUGCAACGCUUCCGCUUAGCGAUCUUCAAAGGUAUGAAGAUGAUCUUAACCCUCUCUCGUUGCUGGUUUCUCCAUAGGAAGAUCUGAAUAUGCGUAGGAAAAUUUUGAAUUUAUGCUACGUUCCCCAACACAUACCACAUCACCUUGGCAGGAACCCUCUUCCUGGGUGGCUCGCCCUCAAUAUCACCAGGGUCAUCUUUUCUGAUCUUAUACCGCAAUGCAGUGCAUACCGGGCAUUUAUCCAUAUUCUCGUACUUCUCACCGCGGUAGAGGAUGCAGUCAUUAGGGCAUGCAUGUAUCUUCUGCAUGUCUAAUCCUAGAGGGCAGACAAGCUUCUUUGCUUCGUACGUGCUGGCGGGCAAUUCGUUCUUUCUUGGAAGCAUCUUCUUCAUCAGUACCAGCAAAUUUUUGAAUGACGAGUCAGUCACACCGGUCUCUGCCUUCCACUUCAGCAAUUCCAGUGUGCUACCCAGCUUCUUCUGGCCAUCUUCACAAGUUGGGUACAACAAUUUGUUGUGGUCCUGUAACAUCUGCUCGAACUGCAACCUCUCCUUUUCUGUGUCGCAACCUCGCCGUGCAUCAGAAAUGACCCGACCAAGAUCAUCAGCAGGCUCAUCUGGUUCCCGUUCUUCAUCGUGAUCUUCUUCUUCAUUGUCUUCCAUUGCGGUAUCAGCAUACUCAGGGAACAUAGAUCGGUAGUUGUCAUCAUCGUUCUCUUCUUCUUCAUCGUCGUCUUCCAUCAUAACCCCUCUUUCUCCGUGCUUGGUCCAAACAUUAUAGCCCGACAUAAAACCGGACCGAAGCAGGUGGCUCUGAAUGACUCUUGAGGAAGUGUAAUCCUUCUCAUUCCGACAUUCAACACAUGGACAAAACAUAUAGCCACCACCAUGCUUGUUCGCAUCGGCUGCAUCUUGAAAAGAAUGCACACCUUCUCUGUAAGCGGCUGUGCGUCGAUCACCGUACAUCCAUGGAUGGCUCAUCUCUGCGUUAUACGACAGUAUAUCAAAUACAAUCACGAUCCUAAAAAUUAGUACCGCACGGUCUAAACGAGGAAAUAUAGUUGCUAACCUUUUAGAAUAAGUAGAAAUAAAGAGGAAGAGGUUUAAGCGUGGCUCGGGCAUCUCAUAUCGUAGUUGUGUUCGAUGAACUGAAGCGGCAUCGCUCUAACACACAUUACAACAAACACCUCUAGUGCAUCAAAAAAAGUGGAGAGCAAGCACCCACCCACAAUCCUCCAUCCAAGAAAAAUGCAACGAAGUGGGGAGAGGGGGGUUGUGCUAUAUAUAGGCAGAGGACUUUAGUCCCGGUUUGAGACACAAACCGGGACUAAAGGUGACGCACAUGCGGGCUGCCCACCGCGUAGCCCUUUAGUCCCGGUUUGGGACACGAACCGGGACUAAAGGCUCCUUACGGGCCGGGACUAAAGCCUCGAGGGAGGCAUUGAGAAUUGGGGCGACGUGGCCGGGCCUUUAGUCCCGGCCCAGAGGCAGGCCGGGACUAAAUGGUCCAGGCCAAAGGCCCGUUUUCUACUAGUGACUACGUUUGCGCACACAUGAUGAACAUACUGAGACAUAUUCUAUGUGGUCUCGAUGCUGACAACACUAAACCAAUAAGUCUGUUUCUUAAUUACUAUCUUCUACUCCACACGUAUGUCACAUUCUGAUCUAAAAGUCCUGCAAUUGAUCCUCGGAUCGAUAAACUUUGAACCGCUCGCCGCAGAUGAAUUAUUGUCUGUUAGAAAAUUUAUCAGCACCAUAUUUGUGAAUCACUAUAUCAAGCCCGCCAAAGACAUCGAAGAUUUCAGUAUUUGUAUCCCCCAAUAAUAAGCACGCAUUCAUAUAGUGUUAUCAGCUACACAUAUAUGCAUGGAUGUAUUGUUUUCCAUGUGAUCAUCUCUUCGUAUUUCAUAAAAUAAGAUUAUGUAUUGAGUACACCCAUACAUCUGUGGAACUUAUCUAGCCUUUGUUCAAUUGCAUAUUGUCGCAAAUUAUGGUGAACUAUUUGUUCAAUUGCAUAUUGUGCCUAAUCAUGAUGAAUGUUCUUUGUGUGCGCACUAUUUAUUCGGUUGCAUAUUGUGGCGAAUUUUCUAUUCACGGAGUGAUUCAAAUGCGAUAUUUAAAAAUAACCUGGUCAUUUCAACGAACACGGUUCAAGCAACCAAGCGUGUGCGAUCUAGUAUAAUGGAAAGCGCACGCAACUCAUAGCGCGACCGUCUGUGAUCUACAGGAAAAGCAUACUAAAACAUCGGUGAUACAUAAGAAAUUGCACACAGUUUGCGUCACUUGUAUGUGUGCGAGGAGCUCCUUAAUCAUUUGAGAUAGCACCUUAUCUCACAUGUAAGCCAAAAAUAAACCAUGCCCGAUGCAAAGACAUCCCACGUGUAACUUUUUGGGAAACGUGUGCGAUAAUAUCAUGCAUGGCACACGGUUGGGAGGGAAAUCUCAUGCGAUAGUGAAGAUAUCACACAUAGUUUCUACCAUGACCCCUGUGCAUUAGGUAAUGUUUUGCAAACAGUAAAAGGUCAAACAUUGUUUGUUUUUCAUGAGAAAUUAGACGCAUUUGACUCGUGAUAGACGUGUGUGAUCGAUCCUAAACCCCAUACGUACGUCCAAAAUAUAGUGUGUGUGAUAUGUUUCUUCGCCGUACAUGAUUAUGUUUCGUAGAUCGCUUGUGUUCGUCGUUCACCAUCGCCGAUGAUUUUUCCAUACCGUGUGGGAUGGACUCUCCUAUCGCCCACACAUGCAAUGCAACGAUCUAAACAUUCGUCGCGAAAAAGGGUUAAAAAUUGUUUCUAUAGCACGUCGCUACAUCGGUGAUUGUGAUUGUUAUUACCUCUGUUAUUCUCAGUUCUCUGUAUUGUCAUGAUUGGCGUGAUUGAUGGUGAAUAGAUGACAAAGGAUUUGUGGCACUCAAGUGCAGGAGCACCGAGUCCCUCGUGAAUGCUUUUUCUUUUGUUUUUCAAUUUAAAAAACAUAUCUUUAAAAAAGUCCAAAUUAAGAUUUUGUUUUCAUAUUCAUGUUUCUCAUGACGAGGGCUUUCAAAUAAGAUCCAUUUCAAAUACGUAUUGACGAAUUUUGAAGAAGAAAAAUUGAAACACGAUCCUUAAGACCCGAUUCAUUAAAAGGGUAGAAUAGAGUUGUCCGAUUAAUUUAUAGAAACCCUGACAAAAACUGUUACAACACACCAUCAAAAGAGGGCACCCUGCAGACCUGACACCAACAAAACCACACACACCAUCGAGAAGAGGACAUUGUGGAGGAUGCAUGCAUUGUCAUCGGUAUCACAUCUCCCUGAGCACGUGACUCCGACUUCGCCGCAGACGACCCGUCAAGACCCCUUCGGACGAACCGUACACGACAACCUUGCCAUCCAAAGCCAAACAAUCAAUCGAAGCCGUCGAGGACCGGCAACUCCAAUUUUGUUGAUGCGCUUCACGGGAAAAAGUUACACACCUCGCACCGACCUAACCCAGUGCAACCUCCGAAUAGCACCAUCCACUCAAACCACCUUCAUGGAGUCAUCGUUGUCGUACGGUCCCCGCCUGACGCAUCUUCGACUUUUCUGUCAGAGUGAAAAAUAAACAUAGGCACACUUGUUGGCAAACCGGACAAUCGACAUCAGAAGGACAAGUCGCGACCCAGCUCCGCACGGCAUCAUUGUUGCCGCCACACAAGUUGCAACGCCAACCACUCGCAUCACCGGUUAGGCACCUGCCAACCGUAACGCCGUGCACCCAUGGCGGGCAGCAGCGAGGCGGAUGCACUGAGUGGUGGUCUGUGUGUGGCAACAACGCAGUUGCUUUGCAGGGGUGUGCGGGCCACUGGUGGUGUGGGCUGACUUCAGUUGGCUGCGUGACGAUGUUCGUCGGGUCGGCACUGAGUGCAAGCUUGGCUCGACUUUGGCUGGCCGGCGGUGGCGGCGUCUACGAGUGUCGUCUCCCUUCUUGACGGCACGUCGUGGAAUUCUUCGACCCACUUCAUCUGGGUCGGACAACGACGUCGUCUCAGCGCCGUUUCCCCUUUGGGUCGUUGCGUUGAAGACCGGUGAUCGUACCCCGUGCUUGCCUACCGGGAUGACCGACGGUGCAACAUAACUUCAAAGGCCUCCACAUGCAGCAGCCGCCCGCAGAGGCGAAGCUCCAAGAAGCAAGAAGAAGGUCGCCACACCACCCCUCUCGCCGGGGAUGAGCAGCCGGGACAGAGCCCGGAACUCAUCGACGAAGCUUCUUCUGUGACCACCACCCACAGAAGGCACCACCUAGGAGGCCACCAAGACAUCGAGAGUCGCCGCGCCACCGGGAGCCACCAUGAUCGUGCAGAUCUGGUCGGUCCACCAUCACCGCGAGCAGGGUGUGGAUGCCCGAUGCGCCGCUCACCCACCAUGGAAGCGCCACUGCACGUGCCGAGGACCUCCCGCGUCGCAAUCGAAUGGAUCCAUCGUCCCGGAGAUGGGCGUGCCCAGAUCCACCCGAGGUCGCAACCCUCACGCCACAAGCCCAGGUACAGAGGAAAUGCCCCGCCGCCACCAUCCCUUUGGUACGCACGGGCUUAGUCGACGAACACUCCAGCAGCGGUGAUGCAGGGGGCAGGGGGUGAAGGCCUUGCGGCAGCGGCUCAGGGUUCCCCGUGUCGCCCAAACAAGGCAACAUCAGGGUCGGGAGGUUAGCUCCUUUGCUAUGCGUGGCCUCGUGCAGGAUUCAACUAUUUUUCGACUCGUGCGCAAUUCAGCUACUUUCCGAAUCGCGAGGCAAUAGAGCGGCCUGGCAGGGGUGCGUGCCCGUGCGAGUUUCCGGUGAGUAGAUUGGAAGUUUCUUCUAGAAAGAAAAAUAGGGAAACGUUACCUUUCAAUCGACUGAUCCUGCUCUCGCGUCCAUCGCCUCCUUUGUUUGCCACGUGGCCAGGCGAACGAGCCGUGACCGUUUUCCUGAAACAACUCCAUUGUUUCAGGACGUUGUUCCUGCAGCUUGAAAGUAGUUGCAGAAGAAGGGAACUCAGGCAUGGCGACGACGGCUUCCACCGGAAGCAAGCCAAGAGCUCGCCGGCCGCCCCGCCACCAAGAGCUCGCCGGCCACCCCGCCGCCUAGAGCUCGCCGGACGCCUUCUCUCCAGUCCGGCAAGCAACGGGACCACGCCGCCUCCCGUGGUCGGAUGCCGCCGCCGGGGGAGCUUUCCUGCUCGCUAGGUAGUGCUUCUGCAACUUGACCUUUGUUGCAAAAAAUUCUCCCUCAAAACGAAGAAAAAAUCCUGCAACAAGCAAAUUGUUUCUGAAACUUGACCGUUGUUUCAGGAAUUAACGGGUCCAAAGUUUAUUUCUUGCAACAAAGCGAAAGUUUCUGCAACUCGAGCGUCGUUUCAGGAAUUAAGUACAGGAGCGGAUCGGACGCUACGCGCGAGAUCUAACGCUCUCGAGGCGGUGGAUGUUUAAUAAAUAUCCACCGAUAGAUGCGUAGCAGCCCCAAGAAAAAUCAGCUAAACCUCAACUUCAUUCGUGGCCCCUUGUUUCUCACUAUGAAAAUCCAAGGAAACACUUUCCCCAUGUGUACCCACGGCAAAAACAAGCGCCGAAUUUCACUGUGCGGCACAGGGGAGAGGGGAAGACACGGAGCCGGGAUCUACGAGGGGGAGUGGCAAGCGCCCCGCCGACAGAUCGAAAUUAAACGCCGCAUGCAUCUAGCUCAUGGCUCCACCCGACACACGUCAGAGGCGCGCAACAGUUUAUUGACCCGGGAACAUGGGCAGAGCUCUCCCGAUAGAAUCUCCCACGAGCCUCCAUGCGUCGGCCUGCACUAAUAAUGCCGCUCGCCAGCACCGCCACCGAUCGAUCGAGCGAGCGAGCUCGUGUCCCCGUCACCUCGGCUCCCCAAAGAGCACACACUCCACCCGCAUCUGUGCAUGCACGCCCACAUGCAUGCAUGGCCCGUCGCAACGCGCCAGCAGAGCUUCGUCCGGGCGCGCUUCCAUCCCCCAGCUGGCCCCAGUGCAGUGCAAGCCAUGGCUAUUUAAGCUGCCAGAUCUGCCGGUCAUGUCUGGGUCUGGCCAUUACCAAUACCACGAGCUUCAUUGAUCUCUCUAACAUGGGGACGCCAGCUGCCGGAUCGUUCGCCCGGUUCCUUGCGUUGUUCGCCGCCGCGACGUGCCUGCUCUGGAGCACGGCGUCCGGCUUCUCCGCGUCCGGCGUCAGCAGGGCCUUCGCCACCUUCUAUGGCGGCAGCGACGCCUCAGGGACCAUGGGUACGUACGUAAGCAGGGGUAGUUGACUCCAUUCGAUCCUGACGAACACACUCAAGCUGAUGAUGCGAUGCUGAGCACUCGAUCGCAGGUGGGGCGUGCGGGUACGGGAACCUGUACUCGACGGGGUACGGCACGAGCACGGCGGCGCUGAGCACGGCGCUGUUCAACGACGGCGCGUCAUGCGGGCAGUGCUACCGGAUCAGGUGCGACUACGCGGCGGACCCGCGGUUCUGCAUCCGCGGCGCCUCCGUCACCAUCACGGCCACCAACCUCUGCCCGCCCAACUACGCGCUCCCCAACGACGACGGCGGCUGGUGCAACCCGCCGCGGCAGCACUUCGACAUGGCGGAGCCGGCAUGGCUCAACAUCGGCGUCUACCGCGGCGGCAUCGUGCCGGUCCUCUACCAGCGCGUGCCCUGCGCCAAGAAGGGCGGCGUCAGGUUCACCGUCAACGGCCACGACUACUUCGAGCUCGUGCUCGUCAGCAACGUCGGCGGCGUGGGUUCCAUCCGGUCGGUGUCCAUCAAGGGGUCGCGCACCGGGUGGAUGCCCAUGUCCAGGAACUGGGGGGUCAACUGGCAGUCCAACGCGCUGCUCAGCGGGCAGAGCCUCUCGUUCCAGGUCACCAGCACCGACGGCCAGACGAUCACCUUCCCCAACGUCGCUCCCGCCGGAUGGGGCUUCGGCCAGACCUUCGCCACCAACAAGCAGUUCUCUUAAUUCUCGUAAUUAGAGAGGUUUACAAAUUAAUCUAUACUCCAGUCCUUUCUUUUGGGGUGUCCGGUAUUUCUUGAUCAGUGAUCGGUGCAUAAUGUUCGAUCAUCUGCCGGCAGCGUCGCCGUGAAAUCUUCUCCGGACGAGGUGUUGUGUGGGUUUUGUGUUAAUCAUCCAUGCAUUUGGCUCUGCGUCCGAGUUGGAGUCAACCUUCACGAUGGAAUGCAAAAAGUUUCAUCAAAUUUAAACCUAUGGUUCGAAAGAUAUGGAUUUUCAAAGUUCAAGAUGCUUUAAGAUUAAUCUGAAAGGAAAAAAAAAAGGACAUGUGACGUCCUCUGAUUGGCCAGAAUUGGAUUUCUAAUACCAUGCCACGUGGCAGCACGACAUUGGAGCAUACUAGUUCGAGGUUUGGGGCCGCGUGGACUGCUAGAUCUUACCCCCCCCCCCCCCUGUAACUUUUAUAAGGCCUUUUAAGUCACUAGAGGAAGUAGAUCUUAUGAAAAUCGAACUUUUGAUCCACAAAAUGGAAAUUCCAUAAACUUUUUUUAAAGGAGAUAUUCCACAAACAAAUUUGCAAAGAAAGAGAACGGGUAACACAGCAAAUUGGCCCAAGAGAAAGCGAGUAAUGCUACACGUACAAAACACUACGGGCUUUUACAAGAACAGAGUUUUGAUUGGAGAUUAAGGGGGGAGGAGGGGCCACCCCGUUGAAUAUCAAGGGGAGAGGUUAAUUAGGUUGAGAAGAUCCUAGCUAUGGUUUGAAGAUCCUACAUACAAUUAUAAACAUAUGGUGCCCGCCGGUCCAUUUCAUUUUUAGCUUUUUGGUUUGUUUUUUAUUUUAUUUCAUUUUCUUUUUUAUAGAUGUUCGGCAAUUUCAAAGAUGUUUGCUUUUUUCUUAAAUUUGUUUAUAUUUUAAAAAUGUAUGUAUUUCUUGAUCCGUGAUGGAUGCAUAAUAUUUGGUCAUGUGUCCUGGUGAAAUAUUGUGGAUAAUAUAUUUCACAAUGACAGGUUGCUCUACUUGUGUACUUUUUAAAUUAUAUAGAAAAAGGAAGUGGAUAAUAUAUUUCAUUGUUUUUGUUUUAGAUGGAAAAUGAAUUUCAUUGUUGAACGUAUCUAUACUGCAGCUGGAAAAUUGAUGAAAAAACAAAUAGAAUUGAAAAUCUCUUCUCUAUCUCUACUACUAAAAUUUUCUAAAACGAAGGUAAGAUUCGAUAUUUCCAUGUUUCACUUUUCUUUCCACCCACUUCGUCCAACCUUCCUUGUAUGAUAAUUAAUUACCUUAAUUUACUUAUCUUAUGAGCCUAUUACACUUUAAUUACUUGUAAAACUUCUCUUUAAAACAUAAUGUAAAUUACGGGCAGGAUUUAAUAAAUAUUUAUUUAUACAAUCACAUUAAUACGAGCAACUAAAUCACAAGGUAACAUGCUAGGAUAUUUAUAUACAUGCAACGCUAUCUGCGAUUAAGACUUCACAUGCUCUUGUCAUUUUCUUUGACAACCUGGCACUUAGCAAUGUGUGUGGCAACGGAGUGCAAUGGGAGGGAAGAGUCCGUGGUUGCCAUGAUAGCCACUUAGAUAGUGGCUACAAGUAAGAAUUUGCAUGCUCGACUUGUUCUGAUUUUGUAUGUGCCUUGAUGGGUUAUUCAUAUUGUGGAGGGUCUUGGUCAAAGGAGAUGACUAAUGAGGGAUGCAACUGGUUUGAUGGGCUUAAAACCAUGGUGAUGUGCUAAAAGUUCGCAUAUGAAAUUGGAGGUAUUCGUGAUACUCAGAAGAAUGUCGUGGGCAGGCGCUCGGUGAAAUUUCUUGUUAUCAUGUUAGAUAAGUCGCAAUCCACAAUAUCAAGGCACACUGUUUACAUAAGGUGUGUUGUUGUAUAUUUAUGUGGAGUCACAUAUGCUUUGCAUUUCAGCUGACAUGCCACUUUGGAUGAUUGUUCCUUAUAUAUGUAACUUCAUUUGAUUGGGUUUUCUCCAAUACGAAACUCAAAUAAGCACUUUACAGUUAUUGUGCUUCACAUUUAGUGAUUAUUGAUGGAAACAAUCAUUAGACUAUAGAAACCAUCAAAGGGUACCGAGAUCCUUUAGCGCAUCUGAAUUCCGCAUUGUCGACUACACUUGAUGUGUAUAUAUACAAGGUAGUGAGCACAAAGCGGACAAUUCUUUCGCCUAAUAAAAGGUGAUUAUGGCUAUGUAACAUCAACUUUUCAGUUCAUAGACUACUAUUUGUUGAAUUAGUUUCAUUGACUAGGCUAUAAUAAUAAAAGGAAAAUCCCCACGUGGUGUUCCUUAAGGAGAUGGUCAAAUUACUCAGAAAAGGAUUCUAACGAGAUUCACUCGUAUUUUCCCUCGAUUCUCUCUUUUGGACAUCUUCAGUUAGUAAUUGAGUUCUCCAAUGUGCAACUAAUGGUGGAGACCCUAGCCCAACCGACAAUGUCUCGACACGCAUGUAACUAGCCAGUAGCAUCUGGUAUGAGCAAUUUACACAUCACAUUCAGCAAAACUGAGGAGUGGCCAAAAGUAUAAAAGGCAAUGAAAAAUUACCAUCUCAUGCCAUCUAGCCUAAACCAUAUGGCUUGCACUGCUCUUAACUCGAAAUAGGACGGUCUCAACAUCCACUAAGAACUAAGUAAUUCUCAGAUAAAACUAUUUCCAUAACACUAAACUAGUGUUGCAUCUGUGUGAUCUUGUCCAUCAAUCGUACAACUCAAACCCCACGUCAUCUUGUGGCAGUACUGUCUAUCAUCACGUUAGUUCAUCUAGACUCACAUGACGCUUUGAAAUAUGUAUUCAUCCUAUCGAUGUUGUGGACAUCGCAGUGGCUGCGACACGCCUGUCAUCGAGCACGUCGUUUCGCAACAAGCAGACCAAAGACUGCCUAAUGGGGAAUUUCCGGUUGCAACGGGUGCAUCGGUGUAUGUAUUUUAUGAUAUAAAGGAUGAAUGUAAGAUACAUGUACUCAAGCAUAAAUAACGACUGAAUAAACACAAUAUGGUAAUGUUUAGAGGGGGUGCUAUCGUUCCCUUACCUAACAUAAGGUGGGAAGUGGUCCACCACAGAGCCAACCCUAGCAUUAUAGAGGCCUUGGUGCGAACUAGGUAAAAUGGACCUAACAACUACACAACAAAAGUAAUAGGAAUACAUGCAUUGGUACAUAUCGGAUAUCAUGAAAAUUAUUAUAAACGCAUAAACAUCCAGAAUAUAAUUUUGAUACGGUCUUAAUACACCAUGUGUAUGUAAUUAUAUGAUGCAAAUGAUGAUUAUAAGAUGGACACAGUGACUCGCACUAGGCAGAGUUGAUGAGUUAAUCAUGUUGUGUAGGGUCGAGGGUAGAGGAGAUGACUCAUAAGGAUGCAUGGGGUUUGACCGGCUUAAAACUAUGGCGUUGUGCUCAAAGUAUGCAAAAUAAAUUGGAAUUAUCUAUAAUACUCUAAAGAAUGCCGUGGGUGUGCACUAGGUGAAAUAGUUUGUUAUGGUUCUACAUAACUCACAAUCCGCAAUAUCGCGAGGCAUAUUGUUUACUCUAGGUGUGUAGUGGGGGGGCAAGAAUUCACAUGGAUCUCGGGCAUCAUCCGACAUGCACUCUUCAGAUAUGUUUUUGUUUUCACCUGAUGAUGCCUUGAUCCUUAAUCAUUGCCCUUUUGUGCAUGGAUUUUUGUAGCCCAUCGUACAAAAUGCACAAGUUAAAGAACCGUUCUGCAUAAACAUAUCACCGAUCUUUGGUAUUUUUAGAACUGGAAGUGCGGAAGAAACAAAAACGUUGGGCAAUGGGAGAGGGUGGCUAGCUAUAUUCCCACAUAUACUACGAAGAUUUAUAUCGAUCGAACCAACGAUGUCAAGGAUUGAGCUGAUCACGUAUGUAGUUUCCUUUGUCCAUGGGUAUAUUACUUUCCCGAGAUUCGAUCAUCGGAAUCUCCAUGCCUAAUUCAAUCUCGUUAGCGGCAAGUCUCUUUACUCGUUCCGUAAUACAAGAUCUCGUGACUAACUCCUUAGCCGCAUUGCUUGCAAGCUUAUUGUAAUGUUGUACUACCGAGUGGGUCUCGAGAUACCUCUUAGUCAUACGGAGUGACAAUUCCUAGUCUUGAUCCAUGCCAACUCCACAGACACCCUGGGAGAUACCUGUAGAGCAUUUUAUAGUCACUCAGUUACGUUAUGAUGUUUGAUACUGAUUGGCACUCUCUGGCAAUAGCUAGACGAAUGCUAUCUCGAUUGCUCAACAAUUAGAAAUUGUCUUGCAAUGACCCACCAGCGCGUGGGAUCGAGGCAGUUUUCGAGGUAGAGUAUUCAACCCAAAUUUGUUGGUUCGUCGAUAGGAAGUGAGAGGAUACUCUCAAGUAUUAGCAGCUGAAUGUGUCAGAUUCAACCACACCUGAAAGAUUAAUAUCUGCAAGCAAAGUAUCAACAGCAAAGUAGUAUGAUAACAACGGUGUCAGAAACGACCUGUUGACACGGCAGACUAUUUCUAACGGUCGUAUCAAUGGCGCCAGCCGUUGCCCGUUGACGGAAAUUGUCUUUUCCCGUCAACGCCGAGCGAACCAAAAUUGUAGCCGGUAGCAGCAGUGUAACGAGUAGUAGCAGUGGCAAGGAACAACGGUAGUGACAGCAGUAGCAAAUAGCAACAGUAGCAAGUAACAGCAGUAGCAAGUAGCAACACAGCAAGUAACAGCUGCAGCAACAGUAGCAAGUAACAGCAGCAGAGCAAAACAAGUAACAGCAGCAGUGGGACAAACUCGUAGGCAAUGGGUCGGUGAUUUGUUUGGAUGAUAUUCAUCAUGCAACAGUUAUAACACGGAGAGAUAUGUGGCUAGCUCCCGUUCGUCAAUGUGAAGUAGCCAUGCAUUCCGUGUGUCGUCAUACGUGCUUAUGGAAAAGAACUUGCAUGACAUCUAUUGUCCAUCCCUCCCGUGGCAGCGAGGUCCAAAAGGAAACUACGGGAUAUUAAGGUUCNNNNNNNNNNNNNNNNNNNNNNNNNNNNNNNNNNNNNNNNNNNNNNNNNNNNNNNNNNNNNNNNNNNNNNNNNNNNNNNNNNNNNNNNNNNNNNNNNNNNCGGGCCCACUCGGUAAUACAACAUCACACACAAGCCUUGCAAGCAAUGUGACUUAGUGUAAGUUGCGGGAUCUUGUAUUACGGAACGAGUAAAGAGACUUGCCGGUAAACGAGAUUGAAAUAGGUAUGCGGAUACUGACGAUCGAAUCUCGGGCAAGUAACAUACCGAAGGACAAAGGGAAUGACAUACGGGAUUAUAUGAAUCCUUGACACUGAGGUUCAACCGAUAAGAUCUUCGGAAAAUAUGUAGGAUCCAAUAUGGGCAUCCAGGUCCCGCUAUUGGAUAUUGACCGAGGAGUCACUCGGGUCAUGUCUACAUAGUUCUCGAACCCACAGGGUCUGCACACUUAAGGUUCGACGUGCUUUUAUGCGUAUUUGAGUUAUAUGGUUGGUUACCGACUGUUGUUCGGAGUCCCGGAUGAGAUCCAGGACGUCACGAGGAGCUCCGGAAUGGUCCGAAGGUAAAGAUUGAUAUAUAGGAAGUCCUGUUUUGGUCAUCGGAAAAGUUUCGGGCUCAUCGGUAGUGUACCGGGAGUGCCGGGAGGGGUGCCGGGGACCAUCGGAAGGGGUGUCACGCCCCAAGGGGUCUCAUGGGCUAUGGGAAGAGAUAAACCAGCCCCUAGUGGGCUGGAAUAAGUUCCCACUAAGGCCCAUAAGGUUUGAGAAGGAAAAAACACAAGGUGGAAAGAGUUUCCAAGUGGGAAGGUGGAAUCCUACUCCAAGUAGGAUUGGAGUAGGACUCCUCCACCUCCAAUUUCGGCCAAACCUUGAGGGUUUGAGGCUGCCUCUUCCCUCCCCCUCCCUCCUAUAUAUACUGAGGUAUUAGGGCUGAUUUGAGACAACUUUUGCCACGGCAGCCCGACCACAUACCUCCACGGUGUUUCCUCUAGAUCGCGUUUCUGCGGAGCUCGGGCGGAGCCCUGCUGAGGUUAGAUCACCACCAACCUCCGGAGCGCCGUCACACUGCCAGAGAACUCAUCUACCUCCCCAUCUCUCUUGCUCGAUCAAGAAGGCCGAGAUCAUCGUCGAGCUGUACGUGUGCUGAACGCGGAGGUGCCGUUCGUUCGGCACUAGAUCGGAGCGGAUCGUGGGACGGAUCACGGGACGGUUCGUGGGAUGGUUCGCGGGGCGGAUCGAGGGACGUGAGGACGUUCCAUUACAUCAACCGCGUUCACUAACGCUUCUGCUGUGCGAUCUACGAGGGUACGUAGAUCGGAAAUCCCCUCCCGUAGAUGGACAUCACCAUGAUAGGUCUUUGUGCGCGUAGGAAAAUUUUUGUUUCCCAUGCGACGUUCCCCAAGAGUGGUACCAGAGCUAGGUUCAUGCGUAGAUGUCUUCUCGAAUAGAACACAAAAGUUUUUGUGGGCGGUGAUGUGCGUUUUUCUGCCCUCCUUAGUCUUUUCUUGAUUCUGCGGUAUUGUUGGAUCGAAGCGGCUCGGACCGACAUUACUCGUACGCUUACGAGAGACUGGUUUCAUCGCUACGAGUAACUCUGUUGCUCAAAGAUGACCAGCGAGUGUCGGUUUCUCCAACUUUAGUUGAAUCGGAUUUGACCGAGGUGGUCCUUGGAUGAGGUUAAAUAGCAAUUCAUAUAUCUCCGUUGUGGUGUUUGCGUAAGUAAGAUGCGAUCCUACUAGAUACCCAUGGUCACCACGUAAAACAUGCAACAACAAUUAGAGGACAUCUAACUUGUUUUUGCAGGGUAUGCUUGUGAUGUGAUAUGGCCAACGAUGUGAUGUGAUAUAUUGGAUGUAUGAGAUGAUCAUGUUGUAAUAGUUAAUAUCGACUUGCACGUCGAUGGUACGGCAACCGGCAGGAGCCAUAGGGUUGUCUUUAAACUAACGUUUGUGCUUGCAGAUGCGUUUACUAUAUUGCUAGGACGUAGCUUUAGUAGUAAUAGCAUGAGUAGCAUGACAACCCCAAUGGCGACACGUUGAUGGAGAUCGUGAUGAUGGAGAUCAUGGUGUGACGCCGGUGACAAGAAGAUCGUGCCGGUGCUUUGUGAUGGAGACAAGAAGCACAUGAUGAUGGCCAUAUCAUGUCACUUAUGAAUUGCAUGUGAUGUUAAUCCUUUAUGCACCUUAUCUUGCUUAGAACGACGGUAGCAUUAUGAGGUUAUCUCUCACUAAAAUUUCAAGACGAAAUUGUGUUCUCCCCGACUGUGCACCGUUGCGACAGUUCUUCGUUUCGAGACACCACGUGAUCAUCGGGUGUGAUAGACUCAACGUUCACAUACAACGGGUGCAAAACAGUUGCACACGCGGAACACUCGGGUUAAGCUUGACGAGCCUAGCAUGUGCGGACAUGGCCUCGGAACACAUGAUACCGAAAGGUCGAGCAUGAAUCAUAUAAUUGAUAUGAUUAGCAUAGAGAUGCUUACCACUGAAACUAUUCUCGACUCACGUGAUGAUCGGACUGGAGAUAGUGGAUUUGGAUCAUGUACCACUCAAAUGACUAGAGAGAUGUAGUUUUUGAGUGGAGUUCUUAAGUAAUAUGAUUAAUUGAACUAAUUGUCAUGAACAUAGUCUAAUGGUCUUUGCGAAUUACGGUGUAGCUUGCGCUAUAGCUCUACUGUUUUUAUAUGUUCCUAGAGAAAAUUUAGUUGAAAGUUGAUAGUAGCAAACUUUGCAGACUGAGUCUGUAAAACCGAGGAUUGUCCUCGUUGCUGCGCAGAAGGCUUAUGUCCUUAAUGCACCACUCGGUGUGCUACACCUCGAGCGUCGUCUAUAGAUGUUGUGAACAUCCGACAUACACGUUUCUGAUGACUACACUAUAGUUCAGUACAAAAUACUUAAUGGCUUAGAAGCAAGGCGCCGAAGACGUUUUGAAACGUCAUGGAACAUAAGAGAUGUUCUAAAGAUAUGAAAUUGUGAUUUCAUGCUUAUGCCCUUGUUAAGAGGUAUGAGACCUCCGACAAGAUUCUUUGUCCACGAAGUAAAGGAGAAAAGCUCAAUCGUUGAGCGUGUGCUCAGAUUAUCUGAGUACGACAAUCGCUUGAAUCAAGUGGGAGUUGAUCUUCCAGAUAAGAUAGUGAUGGUUCUCCAAAGUCACUGCCACCAAGCUGUGAGAGCUUCGUGAUGAACUAUAACAUAUCAAGGAUAGAUACAAUGAUCCUUGAGCGAUUCGCGAUGUUUGACACUGCAAAAGUAGAAAUCAAGAAGGAGCAUCAAUAGUUGAUGGUUAGUAAAACCACUAAGUUUCGAGAAAGGCAAGGGCUAGAAGGGAUACUUCGUGAAACGGCAAAGCAGUUGCUGCACUAAUGAAGAGACCCGAGAUUAAACCCAAGCCCGGGACUAAGUGCUUCUGUUAUGAGGGGAACGGUCACUGAGGCGAAGCAACUCUAGAUACUUGGUAGAUAAGAAGGCUGGCAAAAUUCGAAAGAAGUAUAUUUGAUAUACAUGAUGUUGAUGUGUACUUUACUAGUACUCCUAGUAGCACGAGGGUAUUGGAUACCGGUUCAGUUGCUAAGUGAUUAGUAACACGAAAUGAAAGCUACGGCAUAAACGGAGACUAGCUAAAGGCGAGGUGACGAUACGUAUUGGAAGUGUUUCCAAGGUUGAUAUGAUCAAACGUCGCACACUCCCUCUACCAUCAGGAUUGGUGUUAAACCUAAAUAAUUGUUAUUUGGUGCUUGCGUUAAGCAUGAACAUGAUUGGAUCGUGUUUAUUGCAACGGUUAUUCAUUUAAAGAGAAUAAUGGUUACUCUAUUUGCUUGAAUAAUCACCUUCAAUGAUUUAUUGAAUCUCGAUUGUAGUGUUACACAUGUUCAUGAUAUUGGUGCCAAAAGAUACGAGGUAAUGAUGCUAGUACCACUUACUUGUGGCACUGCCGCUUGAGUCAUGUUGGUAUAAAUUGCAUGAAGAGGCUCCAUGCUGAUGGAUCUUUAUACUCACUUGAUUUUUGAAUCACUAGUGACAUGCAAAUCAUACCACAUGAGCAAGGCCUUGUUUUCAUUGAGAUGAAAUAAGAUAGUAACUUGUUGGAAGUGAUACAUUUUGAUGUAUGCAGUCCAAUGGGUGCUUAGGCACGCAGUGGAUGUCAUUAUGUUCUUACUUCAAUGACGAUUUGAGUAGAUACAAGAGUAUUUACUUAAUGAAUCACAAGUCUGAAAUAUUGAAAAGUUCAAUUCUGUUUCAGGAGUGAAGUUCGUCGUAACAAGAGGAUAAACUGUCUACGAUAUGAUCAUUGAAAUGAAUAUCUGAGUUCCAAGUUUUGGUACGCAGUUAAGACGAUGUGGAAAUUGUUUCGCAGUUCAUGCCACCUGGAACAUCAUAGUGUGAUGAUGUGUCUGAACGUCAUAGCCACGCACUAUUUGGUAUGGUGCAUGCUAUGAUGUCUAGACAACCGCAUUCACUUUAAAUAGGGCACCGCGUAUUUCCGUUGAUAUGACACAGUAUAGACUGAGGUUUAGAGAAAUCUAAACUGUCGUUUCUUGAAAGUUUGGGGCUUCGACACUUAUGUGAAAAAGUUUCAGUCUGAUAAGCUCGAACCCAAAACGGAUAAAUGCAUCUUCAUAGGAUAUCCAAAAUAGUUGGGUACAUCUCCUAUCUCAGAUCCGAAAGCAAAGUGUUUGUUUMUAGAAACGGAUCCUUUCUCGAGGAAAGGUUUCUCUCGAAAGAAUUGAGUGGGAAGGUAGUAGAACUUGAUGAGGUUAUUGAACCAUCACUUCAACCAGUGUGUAGCAGGGCGCAGGAAGUUGUUCCUGUGGCGCCUACACCAAUUGAAGUGGAAGCUGAUGAUGGUGAUCAUCAAGCAUCGGAUCAAGUUACUACAAACCUCGUAGGUCGACAAGGUCGCGUACUGCUGCAGAGUAGUACGGUAACCCUGUCUUGGAGGUCAUGUUGUUGAGAAAUAGUGAACCUACGAGUUAUGGAGAAAGCGAUGGUGGGCCCAGAUUCCGACAAAUGGCUGCAAGCCAUAAAAUCCGAGAGAGGAUCCAUGUGUGAAAACAAAGUGUAGACUUUGGUAGAACUACUUGAUGGUCAUAGGACUAUUGAGUAAAAAUGGAUCUUUAAAAGAAGACAGACAAUGAUGGUGAUAAGUCACUAUUAAGAAAAGCUCGACUUGUCGCAAAGAUGUUUUCGACAAGAUCAAACAGUUGACUAUGAUGAUACUUUCUCACUCGUAGCGAUGCUAAAGGUCUGUUGGAAUUAUGUUAGUAGUUGCUGCAUUAUUUAUGAAAUAUUGCACGUAGGAUGUCAAAACAUUGUUUCCUCGACGGUUUCCUUGAGCAAACAUUGUAUGAGAUACAACCAUGAGGUUUUGUCGAUCCUAAGGAUACUAACAAGUAUGCAAGCUCCAGCGAUCCUUCAAUGGACUGGUGCAAGCAUCUCGGAGUUGGAAUAAGCACUUUGAUGAGAUGAUCAAAGAUUUUGGGUUUGUACAAGGUUUAUGAGAAACUUGUAUUUCCAAAGAAGUGAGUGGGAGCACUAUAGAAUUUCUGAUAAGUAUAUGUGGUUGACAUAUUGUGGAUCAGAAGUAAUGUAGAAUUUCUGUAAAGCAUACAAGGUUGUUUGAAAGGAGUUUUCAAAGGAAUACCUGGAUUGAGCUACUUGAACGUUGAGCAUCAAAGAUCUAUGGAGAUAGAUCGAAAGCGCUUAAUGGAAGUUUCAACAAGAUGCAUGCCUUGACAAGUUUUUGAAGGAGUUCAAAAUAGAUCAGCAAAGAAGGAGUUCUUGGUUGCGUUGUAAGGUGUGAGUUUGAGUAAGACUCAAAACCCGACCACGGCAGAAUAAAGAGAAUAGACGAAGGUCGUCUUCUAUGCCUUAGCCAUAAAAUCUAAAGUAUGCCAUGCUGUGUACCGCACCUGAUAUGUGCCUUGACUCAAAAUAUGUUGAGAGGUACACAGAGUGAUCCAUGAUUGAAUCACUAGCAGCGGUCAAAAAUUUAUCCUUAGUAACUAAUGGACUAAGGGAUUUUUCUCGAUUAUGGAGGUGGUUAAAGAGUUUGUCGUAAAAGGUUACGUCGAUGCAAGCUUUGACACUAAUCCGAAUAACUAUGAGUAGUGAAACGGAUUCGUAUAGUAGAGUAGAUAUUUGGAGCAUUUCCGAAUAGCACGUAGUAGCAGCAUCUAUAAGAUGACAUAAAGAUUUGUAAAGGACGCACGGAUCUGAAAGUUUCAGAACCGUUGACUAAAACCUCUCUCACGAGCAAGACGUGAUCAGACCCCAUAACUAUAUGGGUGUUGGAUUCAUUGGAAUCACAUGGUGAUGUGAACUAGAUUAUUGACUCUAGUGCAAGUGGGAGACUGUUGGAAAUAUGCCCUAGAGGCAAUAAUAAAUUAGUUAUUAUUAUAUUUCUUUGUUCAUGAUAAUCGUUUAUUAUCCAUGCUAUAAUUGUAUUGAUUGGAAACACAAUACUUGUGUGGAUACAUAGACAAAACACUGUCCCUAGUAAGCCUCUAGUUGACUAGCUCGUUGAUCAAAGAUGGUCAAGGUUUCCUGGCCAUAGGCAAGUGUUGUCACUUGAUAACGGGAUCACAUCAUUAGGAGAAUCAUGUGAUGGACUAGACCCAAACUAAUAGACGUAGCAUGUUGAUCGUGUCAUUUUGUUGCUACUGUUUUCUGCGUGUCAAGUAUUUAUUCCUAUGACCAUGAGAUCAUAUAACUUACUAACACCGGAGGAAUACUUUGUGUGUAUCAAACGUCGCAACGUAACUGGGUGACUAUAAAGAUGCUCUACAGGUAUCUCCGAAGGUGUUCGUUGAGUUAGUAUGGAUCAAGACUGGGAUUUGUCACUCCGUGUGACGGAGAGGUAUCUCGGGGCCCACUCGGUAAUACAACAUCACACACAAGCCUUGCAAGCAAUGUAACUUAGUGUAAGUUGCGGGAUCUUGUAUUACGGAACGAGUAAAGAGACUUGCCGGUAAACGAGAUUGAAAUAGGUAUGCGGAUACUGACGAUCGAAUCUCGGGCAAGUAACAUACCGAAGGACAAAGGGAAUGACAUACGGGAUUAUACGAAUCCUUGGCACUGAGGUUCAAACGAUAAGAUCUUCGUAGAAUAUGUAGGAUCCAAUAUGGGCAUCCAGGUCCCGCUAUUGGAUAUUGACCGAGGAGUCUCUCGGGUCAUGUCUACAUAGUUCUCGAACCCGCAGGGUCUGCACACUUAAGGUUCGACGUUGUUUUAUGCGUAUUUGAGUUAUAUGGUUGGUUACCGAAUGUUGUUCGGAGUCCCGGAUGAGAUCACGGACGUCACGAGGGUUUCCGGAAUGGUCCGGAAACGAAGAUUGAUAUAUAGGAUGACCUCAUUUGGUUACCGGAAGGUUUUCGUGCAUUACCGGAAAAGUUUCGGGCUCAUCGGUAGUGUACCGGGAGUGCCGGGAGGGGUGCCGGGGACCAUCGGGAGGGGUGUCACGCCCCAAGGGGUCUCAUGGGCUGUGGGAAGAGAUAAACCAGCCCCUAGUGGGCUGGAAUAAGUUCCCACUUAGGCCCAUAAGGUUUGAGAAGGAAAAAACACAAGGUGGAAAGAGUUUCCAAGUGGGAAGGUGGAAUCCUACUCCAAGUAGGAUUGGAGUAGGACUCCUCCACCUCCAAUUUCGGCCAACCCUUGAGGGUUUGAGGCUGCCUCUUCCCUCCCCCUCCCUCCUAUAUAUACUGAGGUAUUAGGGCUGAUUUGAGACAACUUUUGCCACGGCAGCCCGACCACAUACCUCCAUAGUUUUUCCUCUAGAUCGCGUUUCUGCGGAGCUCGGGCGGAGCCCUGCUGAGACGAGAUCAUCACCAACCUCCGGAGCGCCGUCACGCUGCCGGAGAACUCUUCUACCUCUCCGUCUCUCUUGCUGGAUCAAGAAGGCCGAGAUCAUCGUCGAGCUGUACGUGUGCUGAACGCGGAGGUGCCGUCCGUUCGGUACUAGAUCGUGGGACUGAUCGCGGGAUUGUUCGCGGGGCGGAUCGAGGGACGUGAGGACGUUCCACUACAUCAACCGCGUUCUCUAACGCUUCUGCUGUACGAUCUACAAGGGUACGUAGAUCACUCAUCCCCUCUCGUAGAUGGACAUCACCAUGAUAGGUCUUCGUGCGCGUAGGAAAAUUUUUGUUUCCCAUGCGACGUUCCCCAACAGAGUUGCAGUCACAGCACCUGGCCCGUUACUCUAUGUAUCUACAACCUUCCUCCUUGGUUGUGCAUGAAGCGGAAGUUCAUUAUGAUGCCAGUGCUUAUACAAGGUCCAAAGCAACCCGGCAACGAUAUUGAUGUGUACCUAAGGCCAUUAGUUGAUGAACUUUUACAGCUGUGGGCCGAACCAGGUGUACGUGUGUGGGACGAGCACAAACAAGAGGAAUUUGACCUUCGAGCGUUGCUUUUCGUAACCAUCAAUGAUUGGCCUGCUCUUAGUAACAUUUCAGGACAAUCAAACAAGGGAUACAAUGCAUGCACGCACUGUUUGGAUCAGACAGAAAGUAUAUAUCUCGACAACUGUAGGAAGAAUGUGUAUCCGUACAAUCGUCGUUUUCUUCCGCCCAAGCAUCCCUUAAAGAAAAAAGGCAAGCAUUUCAAUGGCAAGGCAGAACCCGGGGGAAGCCUGUCAUCUGUACUGGUGCUGAAGUAUUUGAUAUGGUCAAAGAUUUAAAUGUAAUCUUUGGAAAGGGUCCUGGCAGCCAACCUGUUCCUAACGGCCCUGAUAAGCGCGUACCCAUGUGGAAGAAGAAAUCUAUAUUUUGGGAGCUACCCUACUGGGAAGUCCAUGAGGUCCGCUCGGCAAUCGACGUGAUGCACCUGACGAAGAAUCUCUGCGUGAAUAUUCUAGGCUUCCUGGGCUUGUAUGGGAAGUCAAAAGAUACACCGGAAGCACGGGAGGACCAGGAACGUCAUAAAGGAAGAGAUGGCAUGCAUCCAGGGCAGUUUCAAGGGCGUGCCAGCUACGCUCUUACUAAGGAAGAGAAGGAAAUCUUCUUUGAAGUCCUGUUCAGUAUCAAGGUCCCGACUGGCUUCUCGUCGAAUAUAAAGGGAAUCGUAAAUAUGAAAGACAAAAAAUUCCAAAACCUAAAGUCUCAUGACUGCCACGUGCUUAUGACGCAAUUGCUUCCGGUUGCAUUGAGGGGAAUUCUACCAGAAAAUGUUCGCCUGGCAAUUGUGAAGGUAUGUGCAUUCCUCAAUGCAAUUUCUCAGAAGGUAAUCGAUCGAGAAAGUCUAUCAGGGUUACAGAUUGAUGUGGUCCAAUGUCUGGUCAGCUUUGAGUUGUUGUUCCCGCCAUCCUUCUUCAAUAUAAUGACACACCUCCUAGUUCACCUUGUCGAAGAGAUUAGAAUUCUCAGUUCUGUGUUUCUACACAAUAUGUUCCCCUUCGAGAGGUUCAUGGGAGUCUUAAAGAAAUAUGUUCGUAACCGUGCUAGGCCAGAAGGAAGCAUCUCCAAGGGCUAUGGAACAGAGGAGGCCAUUGAGUUUUGUGUGGACUUUCUUCCUGACCUUAAGCCGAUUGGUGUUCCUGCAUCUCGGUAUGAGGGUAGGCUGACAGGAAAAGGCACACUAGGAAGGAAAGCAAAAGUAUGUAUGGACGGGCAUUCUUUCUCUCAAGCACACUACACAGUUCUACACAAUUCCACCAUGGUGGCUCCGUAUAUCGUGAGACACAAGAAUAUUCUACGCUCCGAGAACCCGGGGAAGGCUAACUCUUGGAUUAAAGGGGAACACGAGAAGACUUUCGGCAGUUGGUUGCAGACACAUCUCAUGAAUGACGACACCGUUGAAGAUGAGCUGUACUGUUUGGCCAGGCCACCAUCUUCGACUAUAUGUACUUUCCAAGGGUAUGAGAUAAAUGUGAAUACAUUUUACACGGUUGCCCAAGAUAAAAAGAGCACCAACCAAAAUAGUGGUGUCCGCUUUGAUGCAACAGACGAGAAUAGGCACUGUUUGGAAACAUAUUACGGGUACAUAGAGGAGAUAUGGGAACUUGACUAUGGACCUACUUUUAAGAUCCCUUUAUUUUGGUGCAAAUGGUGAAGCUGACAGGAGGCAGGGUAGUUGUAGACCAAAAGUACGACAUGACAACAGUGGAUCUCAACAAUCUUGCAUACAUGACGAACCAUUUGUCCUAGCCAAUGAUGUCGCUCAGGUUUUCUAUGUGAAGGACAUGUCUACAUUAACGAGAAAAAGAAAUCAGCAAAAGAAGAUAUCGUCCGAUGAGCCAAAACGCCACAUAGUUCUUUCAGGGAAAAGAAACAUCGUGGGAGUAGAUGAUAAUACAAACAUGUCAGAAGAUUAUAAUAAGUUUCAUGAAAUUCGGCCCUUCAAAGUGAAAACUGACCCAAGCAUCCUACUGAAUGAUGAAGAUUCUCAAUGGCUACGACCCAGAAGAAAACAGAAAUAAUAGAUAGGAAUAUUGGUGCAAUAAUGUAAUAAUGUAUUAAACCUUUUAUGUAAUGCAUGUAUGGAAUGUACUAAAUUUCAAACACUUUUCAUUUUCAUAGUAUCCAUGUAAGAGAUGAGUUCUCGUUCGAAACCUUGAUACUUCGAGAGAGAUUGUCCGUUUUGUACACGAAGUGCAUCCAGUUUUUGUCGUAGCCCUCUCAACUUUUUAACACAUGCUAUGUGGGUGAAAUGAUGAUAGUAUGCCAACUUUCAACAUUUUCAGAGUUCAUUUGUAGUGCUUUUCAAUUUCAGGGUCAACUAGCUCAAAAAAAUAAGUAAAUGCACGAAAUAUACCAAAUGAAGUCAGAAAUUGUUGAAAUUUUGUGAUGUGCCUUUGAAUGGUGCAUUUUGAACACACAAAAAGUAUGGAGUUCAAAUAAGUUCAAAAAAAAAUGAAAUCCCUUUGUAAGAGAUGAGUUCUCGUUCGAAACCCUGAUACUUCGAGAGAGAUUGUCAGUUUUGUACAUGAAGUGCUUCCAGUUUUUGUCGUAGCCCUCUCAACUUUUUAACACAUGCUAUGUGGGUGAAAUGAUGAUAGCAUGCCAACUUUCAACAUUUUCAGAGUUCAUUUGUAGUGCUUUUCAAUUUCAGGGACAACUAGCUCAAAAAAAUAAGUAAAUGCACGAAAUAUACUAAAUGAAGUCAGAAAUUGUUGAAAUUUUGUGAUGUGCCUUUGAAUGGUGCAUUUUGAACACACAAAAAGUAUGGAGUUCAAAUAAGUUGAAAAAACCAUUGCAGAACAUAUGACCAAAUUAAUACAAGUUCAUCAUCACAUUAAAGCCAAAGAACACUAGUGAUCAAAUGUUAUUAUUGCAAAAAAUAAAUACAUAAAGUUCUCUCAUAAAACAACAUACAACUAUGUAAAACAUUUAAAUGCAACAACAAACGCGAUCAAAAUCGCAACUAAGGUAACAAUUGACCCAACAGCAUAAUGAUACCAAGCCUCUUUAUCAAUGACAUAUUUUCUAAUAUUCCUAAUCUUCAAGCGCAUUUCAUCCAUCUUCAAGCGCAUUGCAUCCAUCUUCAACCGCAUCGCAUCGAUCUUCAUCUUGCGAUCAUCGAUGACAUCGGCGACAUGCAACUCCAGUUCCAUAUUCUUAUCCUCAAUUAUUUUCAAUUUUUUCUUCAAGUAUUUGUUUUCUUUUUCAACCAAAUAUAACUUCUUGAAAAGAAUUUUUAUGUGGGUUGGAAUUUCCGGUUCACAUACCUCCUAGAUUAAAAAAAUAUAUGUCACAUUGGUCGUCAUAAUUGUCAUAAACACUAAAUAAAAUAAAUAGUUAUAAAUGAUAAUAUAUACCACAUCCGAAUCAUAGACAGGACGAGGGCCGACGGAGGCGGAUACCAAAACCAUCGCACUAUAUAAUAACAAAAAAUAAUGAAAGUGAGUAAUUUAUACAAGUAUGUAUCUAAAUCAUACAAGUAAGAUUUUUUUGAUUUUAAAAAGAAGAUAAGAACAAGAGGCUCACCACGGUGGUGCUCGCAGUUGGUGCACGGCCAAACCUAGACAAAUAUUAAGGAAAAUGGAGCUUGGAGGUCGAGCUUGGAGAGGAGAAAGCUUAAGUAGAGUGGCUCGGGCAUUUCAUCGAACACGUCAUGUGCAUGAACUAGAGUGGCAAGAGCAUGGCAUGGUCACACUUCAACAACCAAAAAAACAGGGGAUAUGGCGGGCAGGGGCGAGGGUUUAUAUAGGCAAAACUUUAGUCCCGGUUCUUGCCACGCCCCGGGACUAAAGGCCCCUGCUUCCCACCUUCUUGUGUGCCGAAAAAGGGCCUUUAGUCCCGGGUCGUGGCUAGCCACGCCCCGGGACUAAAGGCCCCUGCUUCCCGCCUUUUGGUCUGCCAAAAAAGGGCCUUUAGUCCCGGGUCGUGGCUCCACCCGGGACUAAAGGGGUCUUUAGUCCCAGAUCGAGCCCCGAACCGGGACUAAAGAUGCACCUGUAUAAGCGGGAGUUAGAAAAUUUCGAACCCAAAUCGUCCAUUUUCUCUUCUUCUUCCUCUCGUUCUCCUGCCCGGCGCGGCAAGCGACGAACUCGACGACGCCAUCAGGCUGCUCGCCGUCCUGCUCGCCGCCGCCUGCCGUCCUCCUCGCCGUCGCCGUUGUCCUGCUCGCCGCCGCCGUCCUCCUCGCCGCGCUCCGCCCUCCUCGCGGCACGUCGCCGUCCUCCUCGCCGCGCGCCGUCGACACCUCCAGCCGGUAAGCCCCACGCCCCCCUCCUCCCCAACACUCCGUCCAGCACAAGCAAAGAAGAAAAAGGAGAAGAAAGGAAGAAAAAGGAGAAGAAAGGAAGAAAAAGGAGAAGAAAGGAAGAAAAAGGAGAAGAAAGGAAGAAAAAGGAGAAGAAAGGAAGAAAAAGGAGAAGAAAGGAAGAAAAAGGAGAAGAAAAUAAGAAAAAGGGAAGAAAGGAAGAAAAAGGAGAAUAAGAAGAGGAGGAGAAGAAAAGAAGAAAAAGGAGAAUAAGAAGAGGAGGAGAGGAGAAGAAGAGGAAAAAUAGAAGAAGAGGAGAGGAGAAGUAGUAGAAGAAGAGGAGAAGUAGAAGUAGAAGAAGAAGUAGAAGAAGAGGAGAAAUAGAAGAAGAGAAAAAAUUAGUUUAGGGUUACAAGAAGAAGAAAUAUUUUUUUUGUCAUUUAAUUUUGCUAUGGUAUAGUGUAUAUGCUUAAGUGUUAAUAGUGUUUCUUAGAUUAUUGCUAUUGUAUAUGCUUAAGUGUUAAUAGUUUAAUUUUUCUAUUGUAUAUGCUUAAGUGUUAAUAGUUUAUUUUUAGCAAGAAAAUUAAUAGAACUAGUUUAAUUUUGCUAUUGUAUAUGCUUAAGUGUCCGGGACUGGGCUCCGCCCGGCUGGUAUUUUAGAGUUUAGGUUCUAGCCAAGACCCGGGACUAAAGGUCCUCCUAUAUAAAACGAGCCUUCGAAGUUUCCGCCCGGCUAGUUUGUUAGUUUAUUAGUUAAUCAAAUGUCCGUUUUUUGCAGAACUAUGGAUCCACAUAUCAGGAACCUCGAAGAGGAAGAACUUCUCGAAGAUAUAAUCAAAGACGGCCCCGACGUUGAACCAGCCGAAUCUCCGACGUCAUAUCUAAACGACUUCGGAUAUGGAAUGGAGGUCGAGCGACACGAAGAUGAAGCCGAUGGGGCAGGAGAUAGGUCCCGUGACGGUGAAGGUGAUAGCUCCACUGAUGGAGAAGCCGGUGAAGAAAUAAUAAAGUCCGGCGAGGUAUACAUAUGAAGUUCGACAAUCACUUGUAAUAUGUGAAAAAUAUUGGAGAUAGCUCUAUAUUGUAUACAUAUACAUUCAUUUGACGAAUGUUUCUCCCUCUUAGGCCUCCACAUCGAGCAAAUCUACGAAACGAGGCCCGACUAGAAAGUUGGAUGCACGGACGCAUUACACCUUUGAGGUGAUAAUGCCUACGGGCGAACCCAAGCUUCCUAAGAAUGCUGCUGACACAUUCAAGAAGCAAUGCGGAGUUCUCGUUAGGGAUCACGUCCCGAUCAACGUUCGGGAGUGGAACAAGCGCAAAGGGGCAGCCGACAGUGACUAUGUCGCUGAAAGGUACAAAGAUAAUCUUUGGAAUGAUCUCAUGUCACAUUUCAACCUGCCAGAAUGUGAGAAUGAAGACGCCGCACACAAACUGAGGGCCAAAGUCAAGAGUGGACUCUAAAGAAGAUGGCCGAACUGUUCCGUAGCUCAAAGAAGAAGCUAUGGAAAAACUAUCUGGAGACAAAGAAAGUGCCAGUAUUCGAGGGUUAUCUAGCCAAGCAGGCGAAUCACUGGAAGGAAUUUCAAGAGUACAAGGAGUCAGAAGAUGCACAAGCAUUAUCAGAAAAGAACAAGAUAAAUGCCGACAAGAAUAAAUAUCACCACAAGCUCGGGCCAAGGGGCUAUGAGACUGCCAUCCCAAAGUGGGAAAAGAAAGAGCAAGAUCUGAUAGAUAAAGGCAUCGUACCUGAACCACUCCGUGAUGAGUGGGAAUUGAGAGCAAGAAAUUGGUUCCUUGCGCAUGGUGGGUCGUACGACGAAACAACAGGGGACCUCAUCUGCAAUGACAAUCUUAGGAUACCGAGGGAGAAUUGGAAAAAGAUAGUGAAAGAAAUUAAGGAGGGACAAAGAAAGUUCACUACAGAUAGAGAUAAAGAUUUGCUCACACUGGUCCUCGGCAAUGACGAACAUGGAGGACGAACGCGAGGCUUCGGUCCAUCUUACCCGUGGUGGCUUGGGUUUGCCAGAGACCAAGACACUUACAGAAGCCGAGAGAGAGCAAAGAAGCGGUAGCAGGAUGAGGAGAAUGACAAGUUCAACCAGUUUCUUGCCAGGAUUAACGAGCAACAUAAGCAGAUUGAUGAGCUUAGAGGAGUACCGCGCCAGGAAGAUCCUGCACUUGAUACUACCGACGCCCCAUCUAAGCGGAAAAGCAGCGUGGCUGAAUCUGAGGCCCCGCCCGGCGAUGAACGAAGAAUGAUAGAGGGCGGUCCCGGCUACCCCGUGGAUGGAAUCAAGGAGUCAACAUCAUGUGAACUCCAUAAAAAAUUCAAGAACAUAUCCAUGAAGGUGGCCGUCGGACAAGCUUUACCUUCUGGCCCUGAUGCACGCUGGCAUGGCCGUGAGAUUCCAGCUGGCUUUGCUAAAGUCGGGGUGGAUGAAAUCAUGAUGGGGUUUAGUGAUAUGGAGCUCGACAUAGCUGGACCCCAAGAUGAGAGGACACUCGGAGAAGUACUGGGUGGAGUCAUCCUAUGGGACAAGAACUACAUCAAGCUUCCAGGCUCGGCCCCAAGGACAACACUGCCUCUGAGUCGUCGCAGGUCACCUACACCUCCAUUACCUCCAAGCCCUCCACAUGACGUCGGCCAGCACAACACGAGUCCAUCUCGAUCACCGCCGCCGGACUUGGGUCGUCCGUCUCCGCCGCCGCCCGCUCCAGAUACAAAGCCUGAGCCUGCAACGGAUACAAAGCGGGAGCGUUCCACCAAGAACGCUCCGCUGCCGCCCGCUCCGGAUACAAAGCCCGAGCCUCCACGGAUACCAAGCGGGAGCGUGCCACCAAGAACGCUCCGCCGCCGCCCGCUCCGGAUACAAAGCCUGAGCCUGCCAUGGAUACAAAGCGGGAGCGUGCCACCAAGAACGCUCCGCCGCCGCCCGCUCCGGACACAAAGCCUGAGCCUGCCACGGAUACAAAGCGGGAGCGUGCCACCAAGAACGCUCCGCCGCCGCCCACUCCGGAUACAAAGCCUGAGCCUGCCACGGAUACAAAGCGGGAGCGUGCCACCAAGAACGCUCCACGGCCGCCCGCUCCGGAUACAAUGCCUGAGCCUGCCACGGAUACAAAGUGGGAGCGUGCCACCAAGAACGCUCUGCCGACGAUUCCUAAGCCACAGAGCACCCCAAAGCGCAAACGGUCGCCCCUCCCAAAGGUACGUCAUGCUAAUCUUCCUAUCGGACCUUAUGAUCGUACCCCCUUCCAUCACAGUAUGACUUACACCAUAAGCCUGAUGACUAUACACGCACAUUGCAGAAGGAAGUGAAAAAGAGCAGAUCACGUGCAAGCCCUCCACAUGACGUCGGCCAGCACAACACGAGUCCAUAUCGAUCACCGCCGCCGGACUUGGGUCGUCCGUCUCUGCCGCCGCCCGCUCCGGAUACUAAGCGGGAGCGUGCCACCAAGAACGCUCCGCCGACGAUUCCUAAGCCACAGAGCACCCCAAAGCGCAAACUAUCGCCCCUCCCAAAGGUACGUCAUGCUAAUCUUCCUAUAUCAGACCUUAUGACUUCCACCAUAAGCCUGAUGACUAUACACGCACAUUGCAGAAGGAAGUGAAAAAGAGCAGAUCACGUGCAAGUGCAAGUGGGAGCGAAUCAAGUUCAACUACAAGCAAGAAAAAAUCAGACGUUCCUCAGCUUGGACAACAGGCCAAACAGUCGAUCCCACCCCUCAAGGUGUUAACCGAGAAUGUUCCCCCUUCGGUGCAGGGGCUAGCUUUAGAAAGUGCAAAGGAGUUGGCGGCUGCAUGUGGUGUCUCGGUUGAAGAAUUGCUGUCUUCCCAAGACGACAAGGUACCCAAGGCUGUGGUAGCCCCUAAGCCACAGUUUGUCAUGGGUGAGCCUUUGGUCAGCAAAGAUGAUCUCCCAACAAAUAUGCGUUACUUGCAUCAAUGGUACUUAAGUGAAUCAAAGAAUGGGAGAACGAUGAUCGUGCUGAGUGUCCCACAAGAGUACUACGGCCGCCCGAACAAACCCAUAUCGACUUUGAUGAACCCUUCCAGAUGUACAAUGGCGACGCCCUCGACAAAUCACUUAUGAGUUGCUAUUGUCUGUAAGUUUUUCAAUUCGUUGUCUACAUAUAACUUGUUUAGUUUUUUCAAUUCAUUGUCUAUAUAUAACUUGUACUCUAUUAUGCAGAAUGAAGAUUCUGGAUUGUAAAAGUAAGAGCAUCCUAAAUAUUGGGAUUAUUGACCAAGAUAAAAUACAUAUAGCGACGCUAACUAAUUAUCCCAAGGAGAGAGAGGAAAACCUUCUAAGGUUUCUAAUAAAUCAAAAUUUCUGUGACCACAUACUGUUUCCAUACAACUUCAGGUGAGGGUCUUUACUCUGUUGUGUCCAUUCACAUAUAAGUGUAAUUGAUAAGUUAACUGACACACACACACACACACACACACAUAUAUAUAUAUAUAUACAUGUUCAGCUUUCAUUGGAUUCUGUUGGACAUUCAAAUUGAUAAGGGAAGAGUUGAUGCCUUCGACCCAUUAUCGAGACCCUUGGAACAGUUCCAAAGCCUGCAGGACAUGCUCCAAGGGUAAUUUUAAUCAUUCUUGCGCUCUAUCGGUCUCUUUCGAUGAUUUUCUGAUAUAUCAAUUAAUGAAAAACUUAGCAAAUCAUUAUCCUUGUCGGGCAGGGUUUGGAAGCGGUUCAAGUGCGUGACUCCCGGUAACUUUCAUGAGAAGCUGACCUUUAGAGCGGCUCAGGUAAGUAGUAGUAUGAUAUACUUCUAUUAAUUUUCAAUACAUUUAUGAUGCUAGAUUAUUAUUUUGAUUAUAUAUAUUCUAUUUUCGUAAAGUGCGACCAGCAGCCACGGGGAACGCAUCUAUGCGGAUACUAUGUUUGCGAGACCAUUCGCACGUUUACCUCUCAGCACAAGGAUCACAGAUUCGAUGUAAGCAAUGAACAUUCACACCUGUAUUUUUACCCGUCAUUCUUUGUUAUCAUGAUUGAUAUUCAUAUUCAUCUCCUCUUCUUAUAUAGCACACGACCAUGACGACGAAGGUCCUACCAGAGCAACGCGCGAUUGCUGUUGCAGAGGAGCUUGCGACCUUUCUGAGGACGGAAGCUAUAGAUGACAAAGGACGAUUUAGUGUAGCUAGGGGCCAUUAUUGAUGUUCGUCCAUGUAAUCGAAUAGACGGGCUCUAGUCCCGAUAAUUCAGAUCUCCAUGUAAUUGUAUAUAUAUGCUCGCUUGUAAGAUAAGUUAGUCUUAUAUAUAUAUGCAUAAUUAUUUCUAUUUAAAUUAUAUUAAAACUAAUUCCCGAACACCAAACGAGGCAUCACAUUAAUCUUCCGAACACCUAAACCCUAAAACCCUAAAACCCWAAAACCCAAAAAUAAUUUCAUUAAAAAAAAACCAAAAAUAAGCAAAAUCUGAAAAUCUUUAGUCGUGGUCCUUGUAACGAACCGGGACUAAAGGGCCUGCCCCUGGGGCGCUACGAGGCGCCCACGUGGAGCACCUUUAGUCCCGGCUUGUAACAGGGCCGGGACGAAAAGGUUAGGCCUUUAGUCCCGCCCCUUUAGUCUCGGUUGGUGAACCGGGACUAAAGCCCCUUACGGGCCGGGGCUAUAGGCCCUGUCCCCACUAGUGAGUAUGCACAUAGGCUGGUCCCUUGUUGUUGAGGACACUAUUUUUUUAUAAUAUUAGUCAUGCAUUUGCCCUGUUAGGAACAACCUAACCGGUGUAACUUUUUGUUUUUUUUUCUUUGGAUAUAAAUAUAAAGAGGAUUACUUACAAACUUGAACAUCUCGCUAGCAUCUUCUGAAAAUAACGGAUUUCGUUCACUUACCAGAGAAAUGAUCACGUGCUCCGGAGAUAGUUGGUGGUCGAACAGUCUCCUUCCUAAAGUUAUGUUCUUUGACAAUACACUACAAAUGAAGAUGAAUUUUCACAUACUCAAUUCUUGAACCAGAUAUGAACAGAACAUAUUAACAUGAAAGAAUUCAAUACCUAUCCAUGAAAUCCUGAAGAUCAUUUAGACCCCGAGGCUUAUUUGAGACUCUGAGAGAAUCCACGCAGUAAACCGUGUUGCGUUUUGGAAGAAUGUCCACCAAGAUCCAAUGCUGGCUAUAGUUUAAGAAAACCUUGAACUUACGAGCUUUGUCAAACACUGAAAGGCGAUUAAUGCAUGCGUGGUUGUAUAUUUAACUUACCAUUCAUGAUAUGGCCACAUGAAGAAUUCUGCUAGAUUUAACUUAAACAAGAUAAUGGCGACACGAUCAAUGGAAUCCUUGCGUGUAGCAUUAUUACGUAAAAUGUCGUUUGCUAAAUAAGGAUCUAUGAAAUACGCAUGCACCCUCAGUGCCCCGUCAAUACUCUGAGAGGAAUACAAUACAAUUAGUUUUUUUGUCCACUUACAUCCUUGUAUAGAGAAGUUGAUCACAGUUUGUGAAGUACUUACAACAUCAAAUAUUUGACAAGAGUGGCAACAAGCUCAUCGAAGUUGAAGUAGAGAUGGAAGUCCUCGAAUUCCACAUUGAUAGUACCCUCACGGUGAUUGAUGUGCCUACUAUCGUAGUGCACUUGCAGAAUGUUAGUAUCUUCUCCUUCUCACAUACUGCCCAUGCAAUAUUUAUGUAACUUGCGACAAGUGGAACUUCACUCCUCAUAGUAUACGCCAACAAGAAAUGGCUGUCCAUGCUUGUACUUGCGUGCUUGAUAACCCACAAGUGUAGGAGAUCGCGACAGUCUUCAAGGGUAGUAUUUCGUCCUAAUUUAUUGAGUCAACAUAAGGGGAGCCAAAGAAUAUUUAUUGGCCAUAACAGUUGACUUGUCAGUUCAACAACACUUGAGAUAUCCUUCGGCAGCAAAUAUUUAGUAGCACAACAAAUGAUAGUUGAAAGAGUAAGAGUGAUAGCAGCAAUUUUGGUAAUAGUAGUAGCAGUCGUGACAGUAGCAGCAAUAGUAGUAACUUAGCAAGAUUUAAUAAAUGUAACACAUAGGCACGUGGAUCAGCAGUGAAUAAUGUUUUAGAUGACAUUGAUCAUAUAACAGUUACACACGAGGGCGACACAAAACUAGCUCCAAUGCAUCAAUAUAAUGUAGGCAUGUAUUCCGUAUAUAGUCAUAGGUGCUUGCGAUAAGAACUUGCAUGACAUCUUUUGUCCUACCCUCCCAUGGCAGUGGGGUCCUAUUGGAAACUAAGGGAUUUUAAUGCCUCCUUUUAAUAGAGAACAUGAAUAGAGCAUUGACACAUUGUGAAUACAUGAACUCCUCAAACUACGACAAUCACCGUAAAGAAUCCCAAUUAUUGUCACCUUGGGGUAUGCAGAUCGAGACACGUAAUAGUAACUAUAACUUGCAAGAUAAGAUCCAAAUCACUCUUAUAUUCAUGGAAAAAUGAUAGGUUCAGAUCUAAAAUCAUGUCACUCGGGCCGUAGUGACAAGCAUUAAGCAUAGAAAAGUCAUAGUAACAUCAAUUUCACAACAUAGUGGAUACUAGGGAUCAAGCUCUAUCAAACUUAAAUCAAUUACAUGAUCAAUCUCAUCCAAUUCCACCGCUGUCCAGCAAGCCUGCAAAGUAAUUACUCACUCCCAGUGGUGAGCAUGAUGGUGGUAUUGAUGGAGAAGGGUUGGUGAUGACGACGGCGAUGAAUCCCCCUCUCUGGAGCCCCAAACGGACUCCAGAUCAGCCAUUCAGAGGAAGAGCACGAGGUGGCGGCGGCUCCAUCUCUUAAAACGUGAUGAAAACUUCUCUCCUAUUUUUUCUCGACGAAUAGGAGUUUAUAGGAUUGGAAUUAGGGUCGGAGAAGCCUCGAGGGCCCCACAAGCUAUCUGGCCGCAACCUAGGGGGGCCUGAUAGCUUGUGUCCCCCUAGUAUUUCCCCUCCGGCAGGUCUUCGCUCCAUAAAUCCUUAUAAAUCCCAAAAAUAAUUCACAAGAAUUUCGUCCGAUUCCGAGAACUUUUAUUUCUGCACAAAAAUAACACCAAGGUAGUUCUGCUGAAAACAACGUUAGUCCGGGUUAGUUCCAUUCAAAUCAAGCAAAUUAGAGGCAAAAAUCAGAGCAAAAGUGUUUGGAGAAGAAGAUGUGUUGGAGACAUAUCAACUCCCCCAAGCUUAACUCAUUGCUUGUCCUCAAGCAAUUCAGUUGAUAAACUAAAAGUGAUAAAUAAAACUCUUACAAAUAAUUUUGUUCUCGUUAUUAUACACAUGCUUAGCUAGUGUUCAAGUUUUCAGCAUAAAUCAUAAACAAACACAUCCAUGAUAAUAAUUUAAACAUCAUAUCCAAUCAUGGCAAUACUUAACCAACUAGUAAACAAUAAUAAGAUAUCUCACAUGCCAAAAAUUUGUCAAAACAAUCACAAAAUAAUAUGGUGACAUGGUAUCUCACUAGCCCUUUUUGAGACCGCAAAACAUAAAUACCGAGCACCUCUCAAAUUAAAGUAGUGACUAAAUAUUAUAAUUCAGAAUAGAAAUAGAUUCUAGUCAUUCUCAUAACCAAAAUUGACUAGACCCAAUGCAUAAAAAUGACAAUAAUGCUCUCUGGUCAGGUGCCUCUAGUAAGAGGGUGAUGACUGAACAUAAAAGUAAAUAGAUAGGCCCUUCACAGAGGGAAGAAUUGAUUUAUAGAGGUGCUAGAGCUCAAGUUUAUAAAGAAGGAUUGAAAAUAUAAUUUUUGAGUGGUGUUCUUUACUGUCAACGUUACGACAAAGGUUCUCAGUAUCUUCCAUGCCAAACUCAUUAUAGGUGGUUCCCAAACGAAAUUGUAAAGUUUUACUCCUAUCCACCAUCCAUACACAACCAUAGCUAGCCAAAUUCACGGAUGCCCUCCAACAUAUCAUCCUGCCCAAGGAUUUUGUUUUUGAUUUAGUUUUGGUUAAGCAGGGCUAGGAACCCUUGUUACCAACCUUCCUCGUGCAAUGACAAUAAAUAAACGCCCGUCUUGAGAGUAACUCACUUAGCAUGGAAGAUAUCGAUUGCCCCGUGGCUGCAUGAGCGGUACGAGUGCACAAAAUAGAUGUUUAUUUGAUGGUUUUAGACGUGACACAUGAAAUUUACUUGGGAUGGAAGGGUAAUACCGCAUAUAGGUAGGUAUGGUGGACUCAUUGGAAUAACUUGGUUUCAGGAUAUUGCACUACAGGAAUCAGAGACUUUGUCGUCUGCCAUGGCAGACGGCAAAGGGGGGCACCCUGGACGGCAAAGCCUUUGCCGAUCGUCAGCCCAGGGCAAACUAGACGUCAAAGAAUUAUCCGGUGAAGCGGUACUUUGCCGUCUACCUUUGGCCUGCGGAUGACAAAGAACCUUUGCCGUGGGGGGGGGGGGGGGUAGACGACAAAGAACAUGGGACGACAGAUCCGCGGGCACCUCCAUUAAGUGUUAACGACAGCCUGCUGGGCCCACCUACCCUUUGCUGUCUACCAUGCCCUCCCUUUGCCGUUUGCCAUGCUUGUGGGCAGACGACAAAGGGGGGCACCCAACCCCUCUCGUUGGACCCUUUGCCGCCUGCCAUGUAUGUGGGCCGACGGCAAAAGGGGGCACCCAGUUUGCUUCAACCCUAAACCUUUGUACCCUUUGCCGUCUGUUGCAACCCCUUUGCCGUCGGUGGGCAGACGACAAAGGAUCCAAACUGCCCCUGUUUAUUUUAUUUUUUAUAAUAUCCAGCAAUUUUCACACAAAUCAGGGAUAUAUAUAUAUAUAUUUGACAGAAAUAAUGUUGUUGCCAUACUCAUAACCAUAUUAAAAUAAGUUUCAUCCAUAAUACAUACAUAUUAUGCAAGUUUCAUUCAUACCAAACCAUAUAUUACACUAGUUCCAUCCAUACAUACAAAGUUUUAUAUCCAUAUACUACAAUAGUUUCAAUCCAAGCUUUCAUGAAGCUAUUUUAGAAGAAACCAUAUUGAAGCACUCCAUCAAUAUAAUCCAAGCUUCCGUGAAGUGAAUGUAAUAUGCAAAAUGGGGAAUAAGAAAGUUAGAAGAAGAAGACUAGAUGAAGAAGAGAAGUAUAGGUCAUUUUAGAACUAAUUUAGCUUACUACAUCAUUUAGGAGGAAACUAAGCUAAGUAUAUGUCAUUUUGGAGCAACUUAAGUAAAAAUAGGUCAUUUUUGAGCUAACUAUGCUUAUUAAGCCAUUUUGGAGCUAGCUAAGCUUAUUAUAGGCCAUUUAAUAGCUAAGUUAGGGGGAAUAGGUCAUCUUGGAGCUACGUAAGCAUAUUAUGUCAUUUAGGAGAGAACUUAGCUAAGUAUAGGUCAUUUUUUUAUUAAAUAGGCCAUUUUGUAGCUAACUAAGCUAAUUAUAUCAUUUAGGAGGAAACUAAGCUAAGUAUAUGUCAUUCUAGAGCUACUUAGGUAAAAAUAGGUCAUUUUGGAGCUAACUAUGCUUAUUAAGCCAUUUUGGAGCUAGCUAAGCUAAUUAUAGGCCAUUUAAUAGCUAAGUUAGGGGGAAUAGGUCAUCUUGGAGCUACGUAAGCCCGAUUAUGUCAUUUAGGAGACAACUUAGCUAAGUAUAGUUCAUUUUUAAUUAAAUAGGUCAUUUUGUAGCUAUCUAAGCUAAUUAUGUCAUUUAGGUGGAAGCCAAGCUAAGUAUAGGUCAUUGUAGAGCUAACUUGCGUAAAAUAUGUCAUUUUGGAGCAAACUAUGCUUAUUAAGCCAUUUUGGAGGUAGCUAAGCUAAUUAUAAGCCAUUUAAUAGCUAAGUUAGGGGGAAUAGGUCAUCUUGGAGCUACGUAAGCUUGAUUAUGCCAUUUCGGAAAGAACUUAGCUAAGAGGGUGUUUGGAUACUCUCUAGUCAUGUGACUAGUAGUAGUCAGACUAAAAGUUUUUAGUCAGGCCCUGUUUGGAAGGUGACUACUACUAGUCAGCAUUAAAUGUCUCAGUAUUAAAUUUUUCUCUCUCCCUUCCAUUUAUCUCUCUUCUCUCCCUUGUGCAACAGAAACUACCGCUAUACUCCCGCGCAAGGAAGGAAAGCAGCUUCCUUUUCUCCCUCACGCCAUGCAACAACAGCUCUCAAUACCCUUUUCUUCUCUCCGCACGCAAGCAACACAAGCACCAGACUAUCCCUCACGAAAAGCACAAGGAAAAAUGUACAUACAUAAGAAAUCAAAAUUGUCCACACAAGGAAAUCAAAACUGUCCACACAUAAGAAAACUAAAAUUGUCCCAUAACGUUACAUGUUGGAAACGAAAUAAAUAACAUCACAAAUUUCUCAACGCCUGUUGAACAAACCAUCAGCAAUCAUAUCUCUCACUCGAUUCAUAUCCACUGAAUCUAGCUCCAUUUCUUCACCCCUAGUGUUACGACGCCUCCUCCUCCUUGUUUCCUCAAUGAGAGGUUGAUAACUCUCAUCAUUGUCACACCUAUCGAAUUCCUUGUCCGCCAAAUGACUUUCACGAAUAAAAUUGUGCAAGGCCAUGCAUGCCACAAUAAUUUUUGUUUGCUUGCAUAGAGGAUAACUUGGUACUUUGAAAAGAAUCCUCCACUUAUUUUUCAAGACUCCAAAACAACGCUCAAUGACAUUGCGUAGUCUAGAAUGAGUAUAAUUGAAGUGCUCCUUUUUACCUCUCGGCAUGGUGCCUUGAUGGAACUCUUGAAAAUGAUACUUUUGGCCCCUAUACGGUGCAAGAUAACCCUGUUUGUUGGGGUAGCCCGAGUCAACAAGAUAAAAUUUCCCUGUUCAUGGCAAUGCAUUUUAGCAAAUGUCAAUGUAAGGCAUAAAACUAUUGUACUGAGUAUCAAGUUUUGUACCUGAAGGUGGAUGUGGAAACUUGUGAUCAAACCGGCUAAGAGCAUCCUUGAAUGGCCUCAUAUCAUGGACCGAUCCAGGCCACCCCGCAAGCACAAAAGUGAAUCUCAUGUCGAAAUCACACACAACCAUAACAUUCUGACUACAGUAACCAUGUCUGCUUAAAUACUGUGGAACCUUGUUUGGUGGCACCACAACCGGCACAUGAGUCCCAUCUAUUGCUCCAAUGCAAUCAUUGAACCAUGGAUACCACUGAGCACCUCUUAACCUUUCAUGGACAACUCUAAAUUCAGGAUCUCGUGGCUUAAUGAUGUCAAUGGAAAGCUUAACCAUACAUUCCAAAACUUUGUUAAACUUUCUACUGACUGUCUCCAUGGACCUGAUAAACCGAUUCUCAGCAUGUCUAACAGAUUGGGGAGAUCCAACUAUAUAUAAAAAGAGAGCUAAACUCUCAACUGAUGACAUUUUCUUGGUUGACUUCAGUCCAUAAGACUCCACUAGCAGAUUAUGUAGUUUAUCAAACACCGGUGGGUACAUCCUAAACAUUUUGUAGCAAUCUGUUCUGUUUCCUAGAGUUCUCACUACCCAUUCAUAUCCAGACUCUUUAGAUUUUAAAAUUCUCCUUUCCCCUUUAACCAUGAAACGAUCCAUGUAGUACAUACCAAACAUGUGGGCGACCAUACCUAGUUUGUUGAGCCUCUGCCGCCUCAACUGAAGUAGUGCUAGCACUCUAUUGGUCCUUGUAUAUUCUUCUUCCUCAUCACUAGAGUCAUCAUCUUCAUCAGUCCUGUCCUCAUCACUAGACUCAUCAUCUUGGUCUGUACUGUCCUCAUCACUAGAUUCAUCCUCAUUCUGCAAGAAAAGCACAAGCAAAUAGAAAUCAUGAAGUCUACAGACAUAAUGAACAUAUCAUCGACACAUGCAAAUACACAGAUCGGUAGAUAAUAAUUUGUCCACAAAUCAUGUCAUCCACGACUCCAGACACAAGAGGACACACAUGACUCAAGACACAAGAGGACACACAUGACUCAAGACACAAGACUAGCUGACACAGAUUCUGCCUUCAUAUCUCGCCAUCUGCUGCAUACAUGUUCUUCGCCCUGCACCAUCUCUUCAACCAUAUCAACCUAGCUUCAGGGGUCUUCAUGUUCUGGAAGACAGUUCUGUUGUGUUUCUCCUUGAAUAAAUCACAAGCAACAAAGUACUCAACUGACUCUUCUGAUGCUCCACACUCAAUGGCAAGGUUCUGACAGUUUUUUACUGACUGAGCACGUUCCUCACUUCUCCUAACCUUUUCAUUGCCUUGGUUCACAAGAGCCUGCAAAAUAGAGUCUGUUUUCUCACUUUCCUUCUCCAACUUAGUUUCAAUGUCCUUCAUAUAUUUCACAAAUGGACCCCGAGUUUUGCCUUGAGUACGAGGCAUGUUGUCUAAAGUUUUGCUUCUCUUUGAAGGACUACUAGCUGUACUCCUUAACUCUGAGCGGCUCCCUCUCUUUUGAGUGCUGGUACUCAUAGGGCUGGACACAAAGCCUUCAUUGCCAUCCAGGUCAUCAUCAUUACUUAACUCCAAACAAUCUUCUGUCCCAGGAACAUAAGCAGAUGAACCAUCCACAGCGACCUCAUGAAAUAUCUCAUGUAACAGGGGCAUAUACUCAGGGUUACCAUUUCUAAAUUUCUUGAGAUUUGGUCUAUCCUGAAAAGAAAUAAUAGAAAGAAAUCAGCAUAUAUAUCUUCUGUCAUUGGAGCAUGAACACUUGAAGGAGAGGGAGCAAGGAUAUAAGCAUAAAUACCUUGAUUUCUUUCUCCCACCAAUCUGCAGUUGCCGUCACUUCGCCAUCUGAGCCGCGGCCGCAGCCGGUUUGCUGCUGCAACCAUACCCAAUCAUUGUACAAGCCCUUCAAGUUAGUUAUUUUGUUCCUGAAUUCCCUGCCUGGAUGCCACAGCUUUGCCCUUUCCCAAUAUUUCUCCCUCAUAUUCUUGUACGCCUGAGGGCUCCAAACUCUACCAGCGUAAUUGCCAGCAUCUAUUUCCUCACAAGCUAUUUCACAUAAAGUCAAUGUAUUUCUGUCUGUCCAGUUAGCCUUGCUUUUUGGCCUCUAUUAAAAAAAUGUAUGAGAAAACAGAACAAGUACUAUUUCAGAUACUGUACUAUUUUUGAUAAAUAUGACAGAACAAGUAGCAGGAAAAAUGUAUGAGAAAACAGAACAAGUACUAUCUCCUCAUGCAUUUUCUGCUUAAUAGCUAUUUUCUUUCAUUUGUCCAAACUGAACACCUUGCUGUAGUUUCUACUUUCUACUUUCCACUUAACAAGCUGUAGUUUCUACUUUCUACUUUCCACUUAACAUACAUUCAUUCAAGCAAACACAACAAUUAGACAAAUAUUGUACCUGGAUAUGCUGGUUCAGCAUGCUGUCGUCUUCCUCUGCCUGAACAUCUUCUUCAGCUGGUUCAUCUUCUUCCUCAACAUCUUCUACCAUGAUCGGUGCUGCCUGCCGCUGCCUGCCGCUGCCUGAGCGACUUGAACUAGCACCACCUCGUCCCGACGUCGCGACUACCUGCUUGCCACGACGAUCCUGGGGCCUCACUGGGGGGAGACCUUGGCGAGGUGGACGACCCUGCCGAUGCGCCACACCGUCCGAUCUGGUCCGCUGGAGGGGCACACCAUGGCCGGCCGCACUCCCCUGAUGAAAAAGUUGCGUGUACAUGCCCAUGUUGGGGUAGGAGGCGGUGACGGCGGAGUCGGCGUUGAGGUCGAUGUUCUCCAGCCCGAUGGGAGCGCGGAGCCCCCCGGCCACCGAGCCGCGGCCGAGCCCCCCGGCCACCGAGCCACGGCCGAGCCCCCUGCCACCAAGCCGCGGUCGGCGGAUCCCCGGAGACGAGGGGGCGUCAUCCCCCACCCGUCCUCGUCGAUGUGGUGCGCCGCAGCACCGGAAGACGCCGUCUGCGAGAAGAAAUCAAAGGGGAGUUCGCCGUCGCCGUCCAUGGUACGGACGCGGGAGCGCGGCACGGCGGAGUGCUGCGGGCGCGGCGGGAGUGCGGCGGCGGCGGUGGAAAGGGAGUACGGACGCGGAGCGGCGCGGCGGAGUGCUGCGGCGGCGGCGGAGUGCGGUGGCGGCGGUGGAAAGGGGAGCGGCGGCGGUGGAAAGCGGAGCGGCAGCCCCCUGCGUGCGAAUGGGAUGGGGCGGGAUGGGGCGGCAGAUGCGUUGCCGAUGGGCCCGCCAAUUAAUUAGAGGAGAGAAAAGUCACUUUUAGUUGGGGGUGGGGUGACUAGGGACUAAACUAGUUUUAGUCACCCAUUAGUCAGGGGUGUUUGGAGGUUUACUGACUAAAAGUGACUACUACUAGUCUCUAGUCUCUAGUCACUAGUGAUCCAAACACCCUCUAAGUAUAGGAGGUCAUGGAGGUCAUGUUGUUGGACAAAAAUGAACCUACGAGCUAUGGAGAAGCGAUGGUGGGCCCGAAUUCUGACAAAUGGCUGGAGGCCAUGAAAUCCGAGAUAGGAUCCAUGUAUGAAAACAAAGUGUGGACUUUGGAAGAACUACUUGAUGGACGUAAGGCUAUUAAAUAGAAGUGGAUCUUUAAAAGGAAGACAGACGAUGAUGGUAAAUGUCGUCAUUUCGAAAGCUUGACUUGUGGCAAAGAAGUUUCCGACAAGUUCAAGGAGUUGAAUACAAUGAGAUUUUCUCACCCGUAGCGAUGCUAAAGUUUGUUAAAAUUAUGUUAGUAGUUGCUGCAUUAUUUAUGAAAUCUUGCAGAUAGGUUGUUAAAACAUUGUUUCCUCGACAGUUUCCUUGAGGAAACGUUGUAUGUGAUACAACGAGAAGGUUUUGUCGAUCCUAAGGAUGCUAACAAGUAUGCAAUCUCCAGCGAUCCUUCUAUGGACUGGAGCAAGCAUCUCGGAGUUGGAAUAUACGCUUUGAUGAGAUGAUCAAAGCUUUUGGUUUUAUACAAAGUUUAUGAGAAACUUGUAUUUCCAAGAAAGUGAGUGGGAGCACAAUAGAAUUUCUCAUAAGUAUAUGUGGUUGACAUAUUGUUGACCGGAAAUGAUGUAGAAUUUCUCGAAAGCAUAAAGGGUUGUUUGAAAGGAGAUUUUCAAAGGAAAACAUGGAUUGAACUACUUGAACAUUGAGCAUCAAGAUCUAUAGAGAUAGAUCAAGAUGCUUGCUAUAACUUUCAAUGAAUACAUACCUUGACAAGUUUUGAAGGAGUUCAAAGUAGAUCGGUCAAAGAAGAACUUCUUGACUAUGUUGUAAAGGUUUGAAAUUUGAGUAAGACUCAAAGCCCGACCACGACAGAAGAAAGAGAAAGGACAAAGGUUGUCCCCUAUGCAUUGGCCAUAGGCUCUAUAAUAUGCUAUGCUGUGUAGCACACCUGAUGUGUGCCCUGUGAUGAAUUUGUCAAGGGGUACAAAAGUGAUCCAGGAAUGGAUUACUGGACAACGGUCAAAAGUUAUCCUUAGUAACUAGUGGAGUAAGGAAUUUUUUCUCGAUUAUGGAAGUGAUAAAAGAGUUUGUCGUAAAGGGUUACGCCGAUGCAAGAUUUGGCACUAAUCCAGAUAACUCCGAGUAGUAAACCGGAUUUGUAUAGUGGAGUAGUCAUUUGGAAUUGUUCCAAAUGGUGCGUGGUAGCAGCAUCUACAGGAUGACAUAGAGAUUUGUGAAGCACACACGAAUUUGAAAGUUUUAGACCCAUUGACUAAAAACCUCUCUCACAAGCAAGACAUGAUCAAACCCGAGAACUGUAUGGGUGUUAGAUUCAUUACAAUCACAUAGUGAUGUGAACUAGAUUAUUGACUCUAGUGCAAGUGGGAGAUUGUUGGAAAUAUGCCCUAGAGGAAAUAAUAAAUUAGUUAUUAUUAUAUUUCCUUGUUCAUGAUAAAUCAUUUAUUGUCCAUGCUAGAAUUGUAUUGAUUGGAAACUCAAAUACAUGUGUGGAUACAUAGACAACACACUCUCCCUAGUAAGCCUCUAAUUGACUAGCUCGUUGAUGAAAUAUGGUCAAGGUUUCCCGGCCAUACACAUGAGAUUACCUGGGCCAAGGAGCCGCUCGAGUCUACCGACCAGACAGUUGGCAUCGACGGGGCUGCGGACAAGGAGAAUGGUGCGAUCCAUGCGAAUAACGUGGCCGACGUCCGGUGCAAGUAUGAUGCGGCUGAUCUCUAGUGCAAGUACGACACAGACGGUCAUUGCCCAUUCCUCGUGAGAAAUCAGGCUACUAACGCGUUGUGGACACAGCUGCGAUGUCAGGUCGAGUGGGACAGUACGGAAGCAGGGUUGGAACCGCUCUUGCAAUGUCGUGCACCGCUCCUCUCGCUCUGCGGACCUCCAUUGGUCUUGCGGUGCGGCACACUAUACCCUCUCUGUGCGGAUACACAUGUUUUGCUCUAGGGAGCACCACCGAUGAUCUCCUUGUUCGGCUCGCUGUAGCCUCUCAGCGGUGAUGCGUCAAUGUUGCUCGGCGGCGCUGCCACGCCCUCGCCAAGGGUCUGCUCAACCCUUGCGAUGACACGCAUCACAACAUUAUCCGGCGCGUCGUCAGGCACGCCAUUAGCCUCGACGGGGCAUUGUGCCUGCACUAGAUCGUUUUCGUCGUCGAGGAGGUUGAUGGUAGAUGCAGUGUUUGAUCGGGUUGGCAUGCUUGGUAGAUGGUAUAGGCUGCACUAGGUGUGCAUCCGCGUGUGUGACGUGCUCACUCUUAUGCUCAUUCGCUAGUCUCUAGAAACCAAUGGGCAAGCUUGCACGGGAAUCUGCGUGGUUGCACGCGGUAACGUGGCUAAAAGAAAUGCUUAUGCGGUGCCGAAGGUGCACUUGAUUCCUCGGGCGGCAACAUGGUGAAAAAACGGGACACAUGAGGAAGAAAUGGUAAGUUCACAAACGCGAUUAUUAAUAAUAAAAAAAUGUCUGCGUUGCACUAUCCAUUUACAUGCCUCCAUGCGUCCCCCUUAUUUUAUUGGCUUGGAGGUGUUGUGGGUGCCGUUUUCAUUAGACGGCACACGUGGGAGCAGUCCACCACGCAUGCCGAGAGGAACACAUCCGAGCAGUCUAGGAAUCGAGCCCUUUGUCAUCCACCCACAGCCCGCCUUGCUCCCAAGUUAUCCAUUAAUGCUCAAUGAUACUUGUGAUCAGCGUUGGAUUUUCCGUGAUGAGUAACAGGUUAUUGCAACAUAAUGUGGGUAAAUAUUUCUUCACUUAUGAAAUUAAGGUUCAUCAGACCAAUAGGAAUAUCAACCACAACCGCCUUGAGCGGCUCCACACAAAAGAACAAACAACUUGCAUCCAAUGCGGGCAAGAGGGUUGUCAAUCCCCUUGGUCUCUUAUUUGCAAGCAAGUGAGACGUGUAGAUAAUUCUAGAUAAUUAUAAAUUGCAAAAUAAAAUAAAAACAAGUAAAUGGAUAUAAGGUAUUGAAGGUUCUCUAAAUAUAUAGUGAAUAGACCCGGAGGCCAUAGUUUUUCCUAAUGGCAUCUCUCAUGAAAAACACCAUACGGUGGGUAAACAAAUUACUGUUGGGCAAUUGAUAGAAGAAUGGAUAGUUAUGCGAUAUUCACGGCAAUGAUCAUGUGUAUAUAUGCAUCAUGUCCAUAAACAAAUAGGCCGACCCCUGCCUACACCUAUUACUAUUAUUCUACUCACCGACCGCUAUCCAACAUGCAUCUAGAGUAUUAAGUAAAAUAGAGUAAUGCAUGGAGAACGAUGACAUGAUGUAGACAAAGUAAACUGAAGCAAUAUGAACACACCCUAUCGUUUUAUCUUUAGUAGCAGCAAUACAAGGAUGCAUCUUGUCCCCUUCUGUCACUGAGAUAUAGAAAUUCACCACAUUGAACCUACUACAACACACCUCUCUCACCGAAGAAGUAUCAAUCUACUUGGCCAAACUAUUUCAAUAGAUCGGAGAGAAUUACAAAGUUAUCAUGAUCACGCACAUAAAAAUCAUACUAGUAUUCAGAGAAGACUCAAAUAUCUAUCAUGAAUAAUCUGAACAUAAACCCACAAUUUAUCAGAUCCCAACAAACGCACCGCUCAAAAGGAAUUACAUCAUGUGGAUCAAAGCGAAGAUGCGAUGAUCAUUGCAUUGAAGAUCAAGAGAGAGGGAGAGAGAUUGCCAUCUAGGUACUAGCUAUAGACCCGUAGGUCUAUGGUGAACUACUCACACAUCAUCACGAGGGCAGCAAGGUUGAUGAAGAGGCCCUCCGUGAUCGACCCCCCUCUGGCAGGGUGCCGGAACAGAGCUCUAGAUGGCCUCCCAUCAGAACAGAGACUUGGGGCGGCGUAAAAAGUGUUUUGAGACUACCUCUAGGAUUUUUAGGACAUAUGAGAAUUUAUAAGCCAAAGAAAGGAGUCGGGAGGGCCUCGAGGGGCCCACAAGCCAUCAGGGCGCCCCCAAGGCUGCGACGUGUUCGAUUGUGGGGCCCUCGAGUGGCCUCCAGCCUUGGUUUUGAUGCAUCACAGUCGAGGCAUCAAUAAGGCCCUUGAGUUUGUAUGGAAAAAACUCAAUAAGGCCCUUGAGUUUGUAUGGAAAAACUCAAGGCUGGAGGCCACUCGAGGGCCCCACAAUCGCACACACAAGUCUUUUCUGGAUCGUAUUUGAUGGGUCCGCUAUCGCACACAGUUCACGUUACUCGUGAUGGAGCUUGAAAUAUACAAUUUGUGAUUCAUGCAUGGCACACAGUUUUGUCGAAGGGUGUCUUAUUGAUGUGUCAUUUUUGGACCAUCCUGCAGUAGUGAAUCAUGUAUUUAACCACCGAUCCAUGACUACAAGAUCUAGAGCUAUAUGUGAUGGCACGCCAGUAUCAUCACCCACCCUCACCGGAGCCGGACAAAUCUUGUUGUAGAAGAUACUCCAAAAGUCACCAUGUUAUGGCUCCACAUGACAAACACACAAGAGAAACAAUCAUCAGCGAUGAAGAGAGUUAUAGAUCUAAGCAUCAAACCAAUAAACACACCAAAGUAGUCUGGAUCCAAAUAGAUCCACUGAUGGCCAACAUCGACCUAAUCUUGCGAGAUUUGAUGGAGACAUGCCUCCAAACAUUUUCUAGUGAUGUUAGACAAACCAUCAAGACGUGAAUCAAACAUGGGAGACAUUAUUCGACAUAGGUAUAUUGGGGCAUCCAUAGAGCCCUAACCAAGAUGCCAAACCUAACAAGAACUAGAGCGCUGUCCUUCCCUUCAGUGAGGGACUGAGGUCCUGUGCACCUUCACGACCCAAAAAUUAAUGGAGCAGAGGUGGAGCACUCAAAAUCAAUAAUAAUUUUGUAAAUGCUAUAAGUCUAAUUUUAAUGAGCAGUCCUCCAAUAAUAGCUUUGUUUCUAAUGUUCAAAUGUGGCCAAGUUAGAAAACACGACUAGGUUGAGAGAUCCUAAACUAAGUUUCUAAUGUUCUAGCCAAUACCUUUGACCAGCACAUGUUUUUUUUGACAAAGUUGCUUGCAAAUCGUCCAUAAAAGGUGAUACUUCAAUGUAUCUUUAGUAACCAGUAUGGGGUUAUCUAAUGUCCCUUGACACAUGAUUUUCAUGCUUGGACACUUGAGUACCUUCACCAAUCCCACAUGUCUAAGAGCAUCUCCAGCCGUUUGCCCCCCCAGCGCACCUGGCAUAGGGUCUAAGGCGUUCCAGCCGGCGUUCUUUAGGUUUGGGGGGUCACAUUCCCGGUCGCACCACCAAGUUUUGGCCCCCACGCGCACAUAAAAUUAGAAGUUUUCUUUGCCGCUACAAAAAAGAUGCAUGUUCGGCGACCAUCAGGCCACAGGUCGGCGAUCGCCACAACAGGUUGGCGAUCAUCAUGCCAAUACUUCAUGAUCAUCAUGCCAAUAGUUCUGCGAUAAAAAAUACGGGAGCCGUAAACAUAGAACUCAAAUGACAAGCUCCUCAUCUCCUACAGGGGCGGGACACGUCGGCAUACGUGGCGGGGUUGUAGUGCUCCGCGUUGGUGUGGCUGCCGUCGGCGUUGGUGAUGUGGUCCUCAUACGUCUCCAACAUAUCUAUAAGUUUUUAUUGUUCCAUGCUAUUAUAUUAUUUGUUUUGGAUGUUUUAUAUGCAUUUAUAUGCUGUUUUAUAUUAUUUUUGGGACUAACCUAUUAAUCUAGAGCCUAGUGGCAGUUUCUAUUUUUUUCCACGUUUUUGAAUAUUGUAGAUAAGGAAUAUUAAACGGAGUCCAAACGGAAUAAAAUCUCCAGAAAGAUUUUUUUGGACCAGAAGACAGGCAACAGACUUGGAGUAGGGGGCAAGGAAGUUGCCGUAGGCCACAAGCCUACAGGGCGCGCCCUUGGGGGGCGGCCGCGCCCCCUGACUUGUGGACCCCCUACAGGUCUCCUAACCCUAAUUCUUGGCCUAUAAAUUCUCAAAUAUUCCAAAAAUACCAAAAAGAGCAACGAUAAUACUUUUACCCCGCCGGGAGCCUCUGUUUUCGAGAGAUCCAAUCUGGGAGCCUUUUUAAUUUCCCGGAGAGGGAAUUGAUCACGGACGGCUUCUACAUCAACUCCAUUGCCCCUCCAAUGAUGUUUCAGUAGCUUACCACAGACCUACGGGUCCGUAGCUAGUAGCUAGAUGGCUUCUUCUCUCUCUUUGAUGUUCAAUACCAUGUUCUUCAUGAUCUUCAUGGAGAUCUAUCCGAUGUAAUACUCUUUUGCGGUGUGUUUGCUGAGAUCCAAUGAACUGUGUGCUUAUGUUCAGAUUAUCCAUGAAUAUUAUUUGAGUCUUGAUGACCCACAAGUAUAGGGGAUCAAUCAUAGUCCUUUCGAUAAGUAAGAGUGUCGAACCCAACGAGGAGCAGAAGGAUCUGACAAGUGGUUUUCAGCAAGGUAAAAUCUGCAGGCACUGAAAUUUUCGGUAACAAGUGAUUGUGUGGUGAGAUGAUUCGUAGCAAGCAACAAGUAACAAAAGUAGCAAUGGUGCAGCAAAGCGGCCCAAUCCCUAUUGUAGCAAGGGACAAGCCUGGACAAAGUCUUAUAUGAGGAAAAACGCUCCCGAGGACACACGGGAAUUUCUGUCAUGCUAGUUUUCAUCAUGUUCAUAUGAUUCGCGUUCGUUACUUUGAUAGUUUGAUAUGUGGGUGGACCGGCGCUUGGGUACUGCCCUUACUUGGACAAGCAUACCACUUAUGAUUAACCCCUCCCGCAAGCAUCCGCAACUACGAAAGAAGAAUUAAGACAAAGUCUAACCAUAGCAUUAAACUGGUGGAUCCAAAUCAGCCCCUUACGAAGCAACGCAUAAACUAGGGUUUAAGCUUCUGUCACUCUAGCAACCCAUCAUCUACUUACUACUUCCGAAUGCCUUCCUCUAGGCCUAAAUAAUGGUGAAGUGUUAUGUAGUCGACGUUCACAUAACACCAUGCUACGGCAACAAAAGUCGUUCCCAUGCAACGCCAGGAAUUCUUCUUGCUACUUCUCUUGUUUGCGUCGGUUUUUCCCUUGAAGAGGAAAGGGUGAUGCAGCACAGGAGCAGUAAGUAUUUCCCUCAGUUUGAGAACCAAGGUAUCGAUCCAGAAGGAGGGUCUCGUCAAGUCCAGAGUACCUGCGCAAACACAAAGAAGCUUGCACCCAACGCUUCAAAUGGGUUGUCAAUCCCUCCAAGAUUGUUUGUAAAGUGAGAUCUUAAGGCGGAAAGUGCAACAAAGUAAAAGGUACAAGGCUGAAAAUAUGGUGUGGAGUAGACCCGGGAGCCAUAGUGUUCACUAGAGGCUUCUCCCAAAAUAGAAAAUAUCACGGUGGGUGAACAAAUUACUGUCGAGCAAUUGAUAGAACCGCGCAAAGUCAUGACGAUAUCUAAGGCAAUGAUCAUACAUAUAGGCAUCACGUCCGAGACAAGUAGAUCUAUACUUUAUGCAUCUACUACUAUUACUCCACACAUCAACCGCUAUCCAUCAUGCAUCUAAUGUAUUGAGUUCAUGACGAACAGAAUAACGCCUUAAGCAAGAUGACAUGAUGUAGAGGGAUAAUCUCAAACCGAUGAUGAAAACCCCAUAUUUUUACCCUUGAUGGCAACAACAUGAUGCGUGCCUCGCUACCCCUUCUGUCACUGGGUGAGGUCACCGCAUGGUACGAACCCAAAACCAAGCACUUCUCCCAUUGCAAGAAUCAUAGAUCUAGUUGGCCAGACUAAACCCACAACUCGAAGAGAAUUACAAGGAUAUUAAAUCAUGCAUAAGAGAGAUCAGAAGAAACUCAAAUAAGAUUCAUAGAUAAUCUGAUCAUAAAUCCACAAUUCAUCGGAUCUCGACAAACACACCGCAAAAGAAGAUUACAUCGAAUAGACCUCCAUGAAGAUCAUGGAGAACUUUGUAUUGAAGAUCCAAGAGAGAGAAGAAGCCAUCUUGUUACUAGCUAUGGACCCGUAGGUCUAUGGUGAACUACGCAUGCAUCAUCGGAGAGGUCCUGGUGUUGAUGAAGAAUCCCUCCAUGUUCGAAUCCCCCUCUGGCAGGGCACCAAAACGUGCCCCAGAUGGGAUCUUGUGGAGACACAAGCUUGCGGCGGCGGAAAAGUGAUUUCGAUCAUCUCCUGAUUUUUUUGGGAUUUUUAGGGAAUAUAUAGGCGCAACCCCUAGGGCAGAGGGCGCCCAGGGGGCCCACAAGCCUGUGGGCCACGGCCUACCCCCCUGGCCGCGGGGUGGGGGCUUGUGGGGCCCCUGAGGCUCCCCUGCCUUGGCUCCCAAGCUUCCCGAUCUUCUUCCGUUACGGGAAAAAAUCUUUUCGGGGAUAUGCUUCCGUUUGGACUCCGUUUCAAAAUCUCCCCUGAAAGGGUUCAAAAACAUGGAAAAAACAGGAACUGGCACUGGGCACUGAGUUAAUAAGUUAUCCCAAAAAAUACAUAAAAGGCAUGCAAAACAUCCAAAGUUUGAAAAGAUAAUAGGAUGAAACCAUAAAAAAUUAUAGAUACGUUGGAGACGUAUCAAGCAUCCCCAAGCUUAAGUCCUGCUCGUCCUCGAGUAGGGAAGUGAUAAAGAACGAAUUUUUGAUGUGGAAUGCUACCUAGCAUAGUUGUCCUUUGCAACUUAUUUCAUGUGACAUGAAUGUUCAGAUCCAUAAGAUUCAAAACAAUAGUUUUCUAUUGACAUGAAAACAAUAAUACUUCAAGCAAACUAGCAAGGUAAUCAUGAACUUUCAAAAUAACAAGGCCAAGGAAAGCUAUCCCUACAAAAUCAUAUAGUCUGGCUAUGCUCCAUCAUCCUCACACAACUAAUGUAAAUCAUGCACAACCCCGGUAUUGGCCAAGUAAUUGUUUUUGCACUCUUACUUUCUCAAAAUUUUUAUAACUAUCACGCAAUACAUGAUCGUGAGCCAUGGAUAUAGCACUAUAGGUGGAAUAGAGUGUGGUGGUGGUUGUGAGACAAAAAGGAAGAGAUGGUCACAUUGACUCGGCGUAUCAAAGGGCUAUGGAUAUGCCCAUUAAUAGAUAUCAAUGUGAAUGAGUAGGGAUUGCCAUACAAGAGAUGCACUAGAGCUAUAAGUAUGUGAAAGCUCAAAAGGAAAACUAGUGGGUGUGCAUCCAACUUGCCUGCUCACGAAGACCUAGGGUAAUUGAGGAAGCCCAUCAUUGGAAUAUACAAGCCAAGUUAUAUAAUGAAGAUUCCCACUAGCAUAAGGUAGUGACAAAGCAAGAAGCUCUCAAUCAUGAAGAACAUGGUGCUAUUAUGUAGCACAAGUGUGGAGAAAGAUAGUAGCAUUGUCCCUUCUCUCUUUUUCUCUCCUUUUUUUCAUUUGGGCUCUUAGGAUCUUUUUUUGGUUUUUGGGCUCUUUGGCCUCUUUUUUAUUUUUUUUAUUUUUAUUUCCUCACAUGGGACAAUGCUCUAAUAAUGAUGAUCAUCACACUUUUAUUUACUCACAGCUUCAAAACUCAAAAUGAUGAUGACUCUACAGGAAAUGCCUCCGGUAGUGAACCAGGAUGUGCAAUGAUCUAGCAUGGCGUAUGACGUUGAGAACAUCUCGCUAGCUAUCUUACGAUCAUGCAAUGGCAAUAUGAGAGUGACGACACAAGUCAUGAGACGGAACGGUGGGAGUUGCGUGGCAAUAUAUCUCGGAAUGGCUAUGAAAAUGCCAUAGUAGGUAGGUAUGGUGGCUGUUUUGAGGAAGGCAUAUGAUGGGUUUGUGUAUCGGCGAGAAUUGCGCGGCACUAAAGAGGCUAGCAAUGGUGGAAGGUGAAAGUGCAUCUAUACCAUGGACUCACAUUAGUCAUGAAGAACUCACAUACUUAUUGCGGAAGUUUUUAUUAGUAAUCGAAACAAAGUGCUAAACGCAUACUCCUUGGGGAAGGGUUGGUAGGUGUUAACCAUCGCGCGAUCCCGACCUCAACACAAAGGAUGACAAUCAAUUGAUCAAUUAGGAUCCGACUUCCUAACAUAGCGGUUCACCAUACGUGCAUGCUACGGGAAUCACUAACUUCAACACAAGUAUUUCAAGAUUCACAACACCCUACUAACAUAGCUCUCAAUAUUACCAAAUCCACGUCUCAAAACUAACUGAGAGGAAUCAAAACUUCUCUUUCUACUCAAUGCACAUGAAGAUGGAGGUUUUUGCAUCCUCUUUGGGUACCUAUCACAUUUGGGACUACUUUCAUAGCAUAAGCCAACUACCAAAUCACGCAUCGCCGUGCUCUAAAAGAUAUAAGUGAAGCACUAGAGCAAAAGUGUCUAGCUCAAAAUAUAUAAGUGAAGCACUAUGAGCAUUCUAGUAAAAUCACAAUGUGCAGCAAGGAUGAUUGUGACACAACAAAAGAAAAGACUCAUAAGAUACAAGACGCUCCAAGCAAAACACAUAUCAUGUGGUGAAUAAAAAUAUAGCUCCAAGUAAUGUUACUGAUGGAUUGAAGACGAAAGAGGGAUGCCUUCCCGGAGCAUCCCCAAGCUUAAGAUUUUUCGUGUCCUUGAAUUUGGCUUGGGAUGCCUUGGGCAUCCCCAAGCUUGAGCUAUUUCCACUCCUUAUCUCAUCGUCCAUGAGAACAUCACCCAAAACAUGAAAACUUCACAACACAAAACUUAAACAGAAAUUCGUGAUAACAUUAGUACAAGAAAACAAACUACCACUUCUUUUGGUACUGUAGCAAACUUGAAUCUAUCUAUAUUGGUGUUGGGCUACUGUAUUCUCACUUUUCCAUGGCUAGUACCCCCGAUACUAACCAUAGUUUCAUCAAAACAAGCAACCAACUCAACAAAAACAGAAUCUGUCAAAAACAGACCAGUCUGUAGCAAUCUGUAUACUUCGUAUACUUAUGGUACCUAAAAAAAUUUGAAAAAUUACGAAUGCCUGGGAAAACGGCAUAUCAACCAGCUGGAAAAAGAAUCAACUCAAAAUCUCUUUCUGAAUAAAAAUUAAAAAUCAUCUCGUGAGCGAAAAGUUUCUGUCUUUUUCCAGCAGGAUCAAACAACCAUUACCAAGACUAGUCAUAAAGGUUUUGCUUGGCUCAAACACAAAAACAAACACGAAAAACACAAUCACAACAGAAUUAUGAUGGCGUGGACGCAACAAAACAGAAAUAAAAAGAUAAAUUCAUUGGGUUGCCUCCCAACAAGCGCUAUUGUUUACCGCCCUUAGCUAGGCAUUGAUAAUUCAAUGAUGCUCACACAAAAGACAAGAAUUGAAGCACAACGAGAGCAUCAUAAAGCAUGUGAAAAUCAGAUCUAAGUCUAACAUACUUCCUAUGCAUAGGCAUUUUAUAGGAAAACAAAUUGUCAUGAUAACCAAUAGUUACCAUAUGCAAGGAAGAAGAAAGAGACCAUAACAAUCUCAACAUAACGAGAGGUGAUUUAGUGAUAUGAAAGUUUCUACCACCAUAUUUUCCUCUCUCAUAAUAAUUACACGUGGGAUCAUAUUCGAAUUCAACAAUGUAACUAUCACAUAGGAUAUUCUUUCAUGAUCCACAUGCAUGCAAAGUUGACGCUCUUCAAAAAUAGUGGGAUUAUCAUCAACUAAAGUCAUGACUUCUCCAAACCCACUUUCAAUAAUAUUGCAAAUAUCAUAUUCAUCAUGAGGCUUAAACAAAUUUUCAAGAUCAUAAGAAAAAUCAUCGCCCCACUCAUGAUCAUUGCAACAAGUAGUGGACAUAGCAAAACUAGCAUCCCCAAGCUUAGGGUUUUGCAUAUUUUAGCAUGAUUGUCACUAAUAGAAUUUAUAGUGAAACCAUUGCAAUCAUGCUUUUCUUCCAAGGAGCCCUCGUGAAUCACUUCAUAAAUUUCUUCCUCACAAUUUUCAUAUUCACGCAUCUCAAGCAAAACCCCAUAAAGAUAGUCAAGUGCACUCAACUCACUAGCAAUUGGAUCAACAUAAUUGGAUCUCUUAAAGAGAUUAGCAAGUGGAUGAGGAUCCAUAUCACUAGAUUUUCAGCAAGCGAAGAUGCAAGCAUAUUGAAGGCACAUGGCACACAAGCGGACAGAAAGAAGGCGAGAAAAAGAUCGAACGAAAAGGCAACGAAAAAGGCAAAUUGUGAAGUGGGGGAGAGGAAAACAAGAGGAAACUGGCUAAUAAAGUAAAUGCAAGAGAUGAGUUCGUGACACCUACUUGGAUGAGUUCUUGACUUGAUCCUCCUCCCCGGCAACGGCGCCAGAAAUUCUUCUGCUACGGCAACAAAAGUCCUUCCCAAGCAACGCCAGGAAUUCGUCUUGCUAAUUCUCUUGUUUGCGUCGGUUUUUCCCUUGAAGAGGAAAGGGUGAUGCAGCACAGGAGCAGUAAGUAUUUCCCUCAGUUUGAGAACCAAGGCAUCGAUCCAGAAGGAGGGUCUCGUCAAGUCCAGAGUACCUGCGCAAACACAAACAAGCUUGCACCCAACGCUUUAAAGGGGUUGUCAAUCCCUCCAAGAUUGUUUGCAAAGUGAGAUCUGAAGGAGGAAAGUGCAACGAAGUAAAAGGUAUAAGGCUGAAAAUACGGUGUGAAGUAGACGCGGGGGCCAUAGUGUUCACUAGAGGCUUCUGUCAAAAUAGCAAAUAUCACAGUGGGUGAACAAAUUACUGUCGAGCAAUUGAUAGAACCGCGCAAAGUCAUGACGAUAUCUAAGGCAAUGAUCAUACAUAUAGGCAUCACGUCCGAGACAAGUAGACCGAUACUUUUUGCAUCUACUACUAUUACUCCACACAUCGACCUCUAUCCAGCAUGCAUCUAGUGUAUUGAGUUCAUGACGAACAGAGUAACGCCUUAAGCAAGAUGACAUGAUGUAGAGGGAUAAUCUCAAACCAAUGACGAAAACCCCAUCCUUUUACCCUUGAUGGCAACAACAUGAUGCGUGCCUUGAUUCCGUGACAACAGACCUUCCCCUGCAACGGCACCAGAAGAAUGCCGCUAGCACUCUCCGGCAAUCGAAACUAGCAGAAUGUUGUUGACGGCCCACCAGCGCGUGGGAUCGCAACAGUUUUCAAGGGUAGAGUAUUCGACCCAAAUUUGUUGGUACGCCUAUAGGAGGUGAGAGGAUACUCUCAAGUAUUAGCAGCUGAAUGUGUCAGAUUCAACCACACCUGAAAAAUUAGUAUCUGCAAGCAAAUUAGUAACAACAAAGUAGUAUGAUAACAACGGUGUCAGAAACGAUCUGUUGACGACAGACUAUUCCUAACGAUUGUAUCAAUGGCGCAAGUUGCCCGUUGACGGAAAUUGUCUUUUCCCGUCAACGUCGAGCGAAUCAAGAUUGUAGCAGGUAGCAACAGUGUAACGAGUAAUAGCAGCGGCAAGGAACAACAGUAGUGACAGCAGUAGCAAGUAGCAACAGUAGCAAGCGACAGUAGUAGCAACAGUAGCAGCAGAGCAAGACAAGUAACAACAGCAGAUCAAGACAAGUAACAGCAGCAGAGCAAGACAAGUAAUAGCAGCAGAGCAAGACAAGUAAUAGCAGCAGAGCAAGACAAGUAACAGCAGCAGUAGGACAAACUCGUAGGCAAUGGGUCAGUGAUUUGUUUGGAUGAUAUUCAUCAUGCAACAAUUAUAACACGGAGAGAUAUGUGGCUAGCUCCCGUUCGUCAAUGUGAUGUAGGCAUGCAUUCCAUGUGUCGUCAUACGUGCUUAGGGAAAAGAACUUGCAUGACAUCUAUUGUCCAUCCCUCCCGUGGCAGCAGGGUCCAAAAGGAAACUACGGGAUAUUAUGGUUCUCCUUUUAAUAAAGAACCGGACCAACGCAUUAGCACUUGGUGAACACAUGAACUCCUCAAACUAUGGCCAUCAUCGGGAGUGGUUCCGGUUAUUGUCACUCCGGGGUUGCCGGAUCAUAACACAUAGUAGGUAACUACAACUUGCAAGAUCGGAUCUAAAACACACAUAUAUUGGUGACAACAUAAUAAUUUCAGAUAUAAAAUCAUGGCACUCGGGCCCUAGUGACAGGCAUUAAGCAUGGCAAAGUAGUAGCAACAUCAAUCUCAGAACAUAGUGGAUACUAGGGAUCAAUCCCCGUCAAAACUAACUCGAUUACAUGAUAGAUCUCAUCCUACUCAUCACCGCCCAGCGAGCCUACGAAUAGAUUACUCACGAACGACGAAGAGCUUCAUGUAAUUGGAGAGGGAAGAAGGUUGAUGAUGACGAUGGCAACGAUUUCCCCUCUCCGGAGCCCAAAACGGACUCCAGAUCUGCCCUCCAGAUGAACAACAGGUUGUGGCGGCGCCUCCAUAUCGCAAACGCGACGAAAUCUUAUCUCUUGAUUUUUUCUGGGACGAAAGUGAACUUAUAGAGCUGAGAUUGGGGGCGGUAGAGCCACGUGGGCCCCACAAGCUUGCCAUCCGCCACCAGGGGGGUGGCGACAACAGGGCUUGUGGCCCACUGGCCCACCCCCAUCUUUGCGCAGGUAUUUAUCAUAUUUUCCAAAAAUAUUCCCCGUAAAUUUUCAGGACGUUCUAAGAACUUUGAUUUCUGCACAAAAAUAAUACCAAGGCAAUUUUGCUGAAAACAGCGUUAGUCCAGGUUAGUUCCAUUCAAAUCAUGCAAAUUAGAGUCCAAAACAAGGGCAAAAGAGUUUGGAAAAGUAGAUACGAUGGAGACGUAUCAACUCCCCCAAGCUUAAAACCUUGCUUGUCCUCAAGCAACUCAGUUGACAAACUGAGAGAGAAAGAAAAACUUUGACAAACUCUGUUUAAUCUUGUUGUUGCAACUAUGUCUAACUCAUAACCAGAAUUUCAGCAAGAUCACAAGUUAACCACAUAAGCAAGUGAGACAAAGGUCUCACGGUAAACUAAUAUCAAUGGCAUAAUCAGCUAACGAGCAAAUAAUAAUGAGUUUCAAAUACCAACACUUCAAUCAAAACAAGCAUGAAGCAAUAUGAAUAAGUGCUAUCUCGCUAGCUCUUUCGGACACCGCAAAACAUAAAUGCAUAACACUUUCAAUGAUCUAGGGCUGACUAAACAUUGUAAUUCAUAGCAUGAAGAUCCAGUCAUAGUCAUACUCAAUAUCAAUCAAAAGCAAAGCAUAAAAAUGACAGAGGUGCUCUCUAAUUGGUGCUUAUAUAAGAAGAGGAUGACUCGACAGGAAAAUAAAUAGACAUGCCCUUCGCAGAGGGAAGCAUUGAUUUGCACAGGUGCCAGAGCUCAAGCUUUGAAAACAGAGAUAAUAAUUUUGGGUGGCAUGCUUUCAUUGUCAACGCAAGGACCAAGAGUUCUCAAUAUCUUCCAUGCUACUCAUGCUAUAGGCGGUUCCCAAAGAGAAAAGUAAAGUUUUAACUCCCCCACCACCAAUCAAUCACACUCCACGGCUAGCCGAAUCCUCGGGUACCGUCCAUACUAACAUCAAUCCGGGGGGAGUCUUGUUUUACAGUUAUGUUUUCGAUUUAAGCAUGGAACUGGGCAUUCCAAUUACCGGCCCCUUUCUCGUGAAUGACAGUGAAUAAACACAUGUCGAGGAUAACACUCCUAGCAUGGAAGAUACCAAUAGCCCAUGUCACCACAUGAGCGGUUCGGGCAUGCAAAACAGAUUAUUUCUUGAAGGUUUAGAGAGUGGCACAUGCAAAUUUACUUGGAACGACAGGUAGAUACCGCAAAUAGGUAGGUAUGGUGGACUCUCAUGGAAAAACUUUUGGGUUUAUGGAAGUGGAUGCACAAGGAGUAUUCCGCUUAGUACAAGUGAAGGCUAGCAAAAGACUGGGAAGCGACCAACUAGAGAGCAACAACAGUCAUCAAGAUGCAAUGAGUUUGACUAACAUUGAAUGCAAGCAUGAACAAGAUAUAAAUCACCACGAACACAAACAUCAUAGAUGCUAUGUUGAUUUUGUUGCAACUACAUUUAUGAACAUGCGCCAAGUCAAGCCACUUGAAUCAUUCAAAGGAGAAUACCAUCCUAUCAUACUACAUCAUAGUCAUCUCAAAAUCUAUGUUGGCAUUCAAGACAAACCACUAUAAGCUCUCAGCUAAAUAAGCAUGGCAUCAGAAACUAUGAUCUCUAAGUUGUCAUUGCGAACAUGGUUCUCUCACAACAAAGCUGAAUCUGGGUCGACAAGCUAGUCAUAUUUACAAAAACAAAAUAGAUAGAGUUCAUACCAGCUUUUCAGUCUGAGUCACUUCAUGAUAUAUCAUCAUUAUUGCCUUUCACUUGCACGAUCGAACGAUGUGAACAAUAAUAAGAGUGCCCAUGCAUUGGACUAAGCUGAAUCUGCAGGCAAACACAAAGGAGAAGACAAAGUAAUAUGGCUCUUUGAAAGCUAAACAGGUAUGCAUGCAAGAACCACUAAACAUUGUAACCAAUAUCUUCUACCUUGAACCAAAGAAAAAGAAAACUAUUUACAAGGGAAAGCUCCCAACAAGCAAAAGAAGAAAGAAAAAUCUUUUUUGGUUUUCUCAAAAGGACACAAAACAAGAAAACGAAAAAAAAACCAGCAUGGAUAAUACAGUGGCAAAGUGUAAACACCGGCUAACAAAGUGAAAGCAUAAGCAUGAAUGUAAAGUCGGUGAGAACACGUACUCCCCCAAGCUUAGGCUUUUGGCCUAGCUUGGUCUACUCCCAUGGUGGGAAAUCACCAGCUCCGGGAUACUCUGGAGCAGACUGUGGAUGCCACUGCUGUGUGAGCUCCUCUGGCUCCCACUGAUAAACUGGCGUCUGGUACUCGAGUGGCGGCUCGGGCACGGGCACCUGUGGUUGGGCCAAGCCCUAAUAUGCGUAGAUGUCCGAGGGCAUAAUAGUGUACCUGCCUGCAUGAAGAUCGAACAAAGAAGGAGCAGGCAAAGUAAUAGUCUCUCGAGUACCCUGACUAAAUACCAGGUUAUAAAUCAUCCGUCUACUAGCAUCUCUAUCCAGAAAAUCAUGGCAAACCAUGCUGUCAUAAUCCAGAUAUUUCUCAGGGAGAAGCAUCUCUCCUUCCUCUCCCAGUCCAAUGAGUAUUGAUACGUCUCAAACGUAUCUAUAAUUUUUGAUGGUUUCACGCUGUUAUCUUGUCUUCUUUGGUUGUUUUAUGUACCUUCUAUAUCUUUUUUGGGACUAACUUAUUAAUUCAGUGCCAAGUGCCAGUUCCUAUUUUUUUCCGUGUUUUUGACUCUUUUCAGAUCUGAUUUUGGAACGGAGUCCAAACGGAAGAAAAACCCCAAAUGAUUUUUUCCCGAACGGAAGAAGAUCAGGGGGCCUUUGGGCCAAGUCAGGUGGGCUCGAGGGAGCCCACAAGCCCCCACUCCGCCACCAGGGGGAGGCGGCGGUGGGCAGGCUUGUGGCCUCCCUGGCCGCCCCUUGACCUAGAUCUUUGGCCUAUAAAUUCCCAAAUAUUCCGCAAAAAUUCAGGGGAGCCUUGAAAAUACUUUUCCGCCGCCGCAAGCUUCCGUUUCCGCGAGAUAUCAUCUCGAGACCCUUCCCGGCACCCUGCCGGAGGGGACUUUGGAGUUGGAGGGCUUCUUCAUCAUCAUCAUCGCCCCUCCAAUGACUUGUGAAUAGUUCACUUCAGACCUACGGGGUCCGUAGUUAGUAGCUAGAUGGCUUCUUCUCUCUCUUGGAUCUUCAAUACAAAGUUCUCCAUGAUCUUCAUGGAGAUCUAUCCGAUGUAAUCUUCUUUGGCGGUGUGUUUGUCGAGAUCCGAUGAAUUGUGGAUUUGUGAUCAGAUUAUCUAUGAUAUAUAUUUGAGUCUUUGCUGAUUUCUUAUAUGCAUGAUUUGAUAUCCUUGUAAGUCUCUCCGAGUCUUGGGUUUUGUUUGGCCAACUAGAUCUAUGAUUCUUGCAAUGGGAGAAGUGCUUGGUUUUGGGUUCUGCCAUGUGGUGACCUUUCCCAGUGAUAGUAGGGGCAUCAAGGAACACAUCAAGUAGUUGCCAUCAAGAGUAAAAAGAUGGGGUUUUUAUCAUUGGUUUGAGAUUAUCCCUCUACAUCAUGUCAUCUUGCUUAAGGCGUUACUCUGUUGUUAUGGACUUAAUACACUAGAUGCAUGCUGGAUAGCGGUCGACGUGUGGAGUAAUAGUAGUAGAUGCAGACAGUAUCGGUCUACUUGUUUUGGACGUGAUGCCUAUAGAAAUAAUCAUUGCAUAGAUAUCGUCACGACUUUGCGCGGUUCUAUCAAUUGCUCGACAGUAAUUUGUUCACCCACCGUCUACUUUCUUUCAUGAGAGAAGCCACUAGUAAACACUAGGGCCCCCGGGUCUAUUCACAUCCAUCGUUUACAUCUCCGCUUUUACUUUGCUUUGUUACUUUGUUGCUUUCAGUUCUCACUUGGCAAACAAUCUAUAAGGGAUUGACAACCCCUUCAUAGCGUUGGGAGCAAGUUUUUGUGUUUGUGCAGGAUCUUGAGAUACUCCUCCACUGGAUUGAUACCUUGGUUCUCAAACUGAGGGAAAUACUUACCACCACUACGCUACAUCACCCUUUCCGCUUCGAGGGAACACCAACGCAAGGCUCCAAGGCCACGGGGGAAAUCGUUUGCACACUUGCCUAGGAAGUCCCUUAAGGCGUAGCCGCAACAGAAAGAUCAAACCAAUUAUUCUCCCGUCGACGUGUCUAUUUCUGGCGCCGUUGGAAGGUCUUUUGUUGCAGUAGCAAGUAUCUCAAAGUGUCUGGCAAGACGGGUAGCAUAGAUACCUCCAUAGACGACACCCUUGGAACGGUUGGUGUUCAACCACUGGGCUACUAUAGCACCUAGGCUAUAAGUCUUAUCGUUAUAGAGGCCUUCGCGCAAAACCGCAAGGUGUGGAGAACUAAGUGAUCCAGCCUCCCCAAGGCCAAUCAAACGUGGCCCCCACAAGCUUGCCAUCCGCCACUAGGGGGGGGGGUGGCGGCUACAAGGCUUGUGGCCCACUGGCCCACCCCCUCAUGCGGGUCUUUGCGCAGGUAUUUUUCAUGUUUUCCAAAAAUAUUCCCCGUAAAUUUUCAGGACGUUCUCAGAACUUUGAUUUCUGCACAAAAAUAACACCAAGGCAAUUUUGCUAAAAACAGCAUUAGUCCAGGUUAGUUCCAUUCAAAUCAUGCAAAUUAGAGUCCAAAACAAAGGGCAAAAGAGUUUGGAAAAGUAGAUACGAUGGAGACGUAUCAUGCCUCGCUACCCCUUCUCUCACUGGGUGAGGUCAUCGCACGGUAUGAACCCAAAACCAAGCACUUCUCCCAUUGCAAGAAUCAUAGAUCUAGUUGGCCAGACAAAACCCACAACUUGAAGAGAAUUACAAGGAUAUGAAAUCAUGCAUAAGAGAGAUCAGAAGAAACUCAAAUAAGAUUCAUAGAUAAUCUGAUCAUAAAUCCACAAUUCAUCGGAUCUCGACAAACACACCACAAAAAAUAUUACAUCAGAUAGAUCUCCAGGAAGAUCAUGGAGAACUUUGUAUUGAAGAUCCAAGAGAGAGAAGAAGCCAUCUAGUUACUAGCUAUGGACCCGUAGGUCUAUGGUGAACUACUCACGCAUCAUCGGAGAGGUCAUGGUGUUGAUGAAGAAGCCCUCCGUGUCCGAAUCCCCCUCCGGCAGGGCACCAGAACGUGCCCCAGAUGGGAUCUUGCGGAGACAGAAGCUUGCGGCGGCGGAAAAGUGAUUUCGAUCAUCUCCUGAUUUUUUUGGGAUUUUUAGGGAAUAUAUAGGCGCAACCCCUAGGGUAGAGGGCGCCCAGGGGGCCCACAAGCCUGUGGGCCGCGGCCUACCCCCCUGGCCGCGGGGUGGGGGCUUGAGGGGCCCCUGAGGCUCCCCUGCCUUGGCUCCCAAGCUUCCCGAUCUUCUUCUGUUACGGAAAAAAUCUUUUCGGGGAUUUUCUUCCCUUUGGACUCCGUUUCAAAAUCUCCUCUGAAAGGGGUCAAAAACAUGGAAAAACAGGAACUGGCACUUGGCACUUAGUUAAUAAGUUAGUCCCAAAAAAUAUAUAAAAGGCAUGCAAAACAUCCAAAGUUUGACAAGAUAAUAGCAUGAAACCAUCAAAAAUUAUUGAUAUGUUGGAUACGUAUCACACCACUAGAGGAAAAACAACAUACAACAUAUCAAAUUACCGAACGAAUACCAAAUUCAUAUGACUACUAUUAAGAUGACUUAUCCCAUGUCCUGAGGAACAAAAAUAAGUACUCACAAAGCAUAACCAUAUCCAUGACCAGAGAGGUAAUGAGUAGCAUCAAGGAUCCUAACAUAAACUCUUCCACCAAAUAAUCCAACUAGCAUCAACUACAAAGAGUAAUCAACACUACUAGCAACCUUACAAGUACCAAUCGGAGUAGCGAGAUGGAGAUUGGUUACAAGUGAUGAACUAGGGUUUGGAGAUGAGAUGGUGCUGAUGAAGAUGUUGAUGGUGACGAGUCCCCUCCGAUGAGAUGAGUGUUGGUGAUGACGAUGGCGACGAUUUCCCCCUCUGGGAGGGAAGUUUCCCCGACAGGAUCGUCCUGCCGGAGCUCUAGAUUGGUUCUGCUCAAGUUCCACCUCGUGGCAGCGGCGAAUCCAUGGAAAAGCUCCUCCUUGAUUUUUUUCCAGAUGAAACCCUUCAUAUAGCAGAAGAGGGUGGCAAGUGGGCCAGCAAGGUGCCCACAAGCCCUCAUGGCGCGGCCUGGGGGGGUGGCCACGCCGUGCAGGCUUGUGGCCAUCCCCUGGCGCCGCUCUGGCGCUUCUUCAGCCCAGUAUUUUUUAUAAAUCCAGAAAAAAAUCCUCGUUGUUUUUUACGGCGUUUGGAGUUGCGCAGAAUAGGUAUAUCAACUUUGCUCCACUUUCAGGCCAGAAUUCCAGCUGACGACAUUCUCCCUCUUCAUGUAAACCUUGCAAAAUAAGAGAGAAAAGGCAUAAGAGUUGUACCGCGAAGUGAAAUAAUAGCCCAAGAAGCGAUAAAUAUCAACAUGAAAACAUGAUGCAAAAUGGACGUAUCAAGUUUCUUCUGAAUUCUUAUAUGCAUGAUUUCAUAUCUUUGGAAGUCUCUUCGAAUUAUUUGUUUGGUUUGUCCAACUAUAUUGGUAAUUCUUGCAAUGAGAGAAAUGCUUAGUUUUGGGUUCAAUCUUGCGGUGUCCUCACGCAGUGACAGUAGGGGUAGCGAGGCAUGUAUUCUGUUGUGGCCAUCAAGGGUAAAACGAUGGGGUUUUCAUCAUAUUGCUUGAUUUUAUCCCUCUACAUCAUGUCAUCUUACUUAAUGUGUUAUUCUAUUCUUCAUGAACUUCAUACUCUAGAUGCAGGUAGGAGUCGGUUGAUGUGUGGAGUAAUAGUAGUAGAUGCAGAAUCGUUUUGGUCUACUUGAUAUGUACGUGAUGCCUAUAUGCAUAACCAUUGCCUUAGAUAUCUUCAUAAUUACUUGCUUUUCUAUCAGUUGCUCAACAAUAAUUUGUUCACCCACCGUAUUAUUUUAUUUUAUGAGAGAAGCCUCUAGUGAAACCUAUGGCCCCCGGGUCUAUUUUCGAUAUCAUAUUUUCAGAUAUAUAAAUCAAAAAUACCAAAAAUACUUUGCUGCAAUUUAUUUACUUUAGUUUUACUUUAGAUCUAUCAAUAUUUAUUCCUAUCUCUAUCAGAUGUCAUCCUUGCAAAUAACUCUAAAGGGAUUGACAACCCCUUUAUAGCGCUGGGUGCAAGUGUUUGAUUAUUUGUGUAGGUACUACUAUUGGAGUCUUGUUUGUUCCUCCUACUGGAUUGAUACCUUGGUUCUCAUCAAACUGAGGGAAAUACUUAUCUACUCCGCUACAUCACCCUUUCCUCUUCAAGGAAAAACCAACGCAAGCUCAAGAGGUAGCAAGAAGGAUUUCUAGCGCCUUGCCGUGGAGGAUACAUAGCAAGAUCACCAAGUACCCAUCACAAACUCAUUUCUUGCAUUUAAUUUAUUUUCCAUUUGCCUCUCGUUUUCCUCUCCCCCACUUCACCAAUUUGCCAUUUUAUUCGCCUUUUUCUCGCCGGAUCUCUUUUGGUCUACUUGUGUUACCAUGUGCCUUCUAUUUGCUUGCAUCUUUGCUUGCUAAAAAUAUAUUGAUAUGGAUCCUCAUCCACUUGCUAAUCUUUUCAAGAGAUCCAAUUAUGAUGAACCAAUUGCUAGUGAGUUGAGUGUACUUGAUUAUCUCCAUGAAGUUUUGCUUGAGAUUCGUGAAUCUAAAAAUUGUGAUGAAGUGAUUCAUGAUGUUUCCUUGAAUGAAAAGUAUGAUUGCAAUGAUAUUGCUAUAAAUUCCAUUGAUAUCAAUUGUGCUAAUGAUAUGCAAACCCACAAGCUUGGGGGUUCUAUAUUUGAUGAGUUUGCCAUGACCACUACUUAUUGCAAUGAUCAUGAUUGGGGUGAUAAUUCUUCUUAUGAUCUUGAUAAUUUAUUUAAUAUUCUUGAUGAAUAUGAUAUCGAAAGUGGGUUUGGAAGAGUUUCAAAUUUAUAUAAAAAGAAUACCACAUAUUUGGAGAGUGCUCAAUCUUAUGAAUAUUUUGAUAAAAGUGGGUUUGGAGAGGUCAUGACUUUAGUUAAUGUUAAUCCCACUACCUUGGAAGAUUGUAAGACUUUUAUGCAUGUGGAUCAUGAAAAUAAUGCUUUAUGUGAUAGUUAUAUUGUUGAAAUUAUUCAUGAUGCUACUGAAAAUUACUAUGAGAGAGGAACAUAUGCUUUUACAUAUUGCAAUAAUAUCAAGUUUCUUCUCUAUGUCUUGGAAAUUUUGAAGUUAUACUUGUUUUGUCUUCCUAUGCUAAUUGAUUGUUGUUCCCAUAAUUUGUUUGCUCAAAAAAAUCCCCAUGCAUAGGAAGUGGGUUAGACUUAAAUAUGCUUGCCUUGUGACCCAUGAUGCUCUCUUUAUGUUUAAUUAUUUACCUUUAGGCGAGCAUCAUUGAAAUCAUCAUGCCUAGCUACGGGCAUAAAACAAUAGCGCUUGUUGGGAGGCAACCCAAUUUUAUUUGUUUUGCUUUUGUUUUUGUUUCUGUUUUUGUGUGCUGCACAUAUUAUUACCUCUGUAAUAAUUGUGUUUCCUUGCUUUAAUUAGUGUUUGAGCCCAGUAAUACCUUUGGGAUGGUCUAUGGUGCUUGCAAGUUGAUUUUGCUGAAAAACAGAAACUUUCGCUCUCAGUCCAGAAAUUUUAUAAAUACACUGGAAUGUGCUUUUGAUGUGAUUUUUUACACAAAGUUGGUUUAAAAAUUUCCGAGGUUGUCCUAAUGUAUCACAAUUUUUGGAGUUACAGAAGUAUUCCAAGUAAACAGAUUGCUACAUACUGUUCUGUUUUUGACAGAUUCUGUUUCUUUGUGUUGUUUGUGGAUUUCGAUGAAUCUAUGGGUUGUAUUGGGGGUAUGAACCAUGGAGAAGUUAGAAUACAGUAAAUAUUACAUUAAUAUAAAUAAAGAAUGAGUUCACAACAGUACCUAAGUGGUGAUUUAUCUUUCUUAUACUAACGAAUCUCACGAAUUUUCUGUUGAGUUUUGUGUUGUGAAGUUUUCAUGUUUUGGGUAAUUAAAGAUUUGAUGGACUAUCGAAUAAGGAGUGGCAAGGGCCUAAUAUUGGGGAUUCCCAAGGCACCCCAAGCCAUAUUCAAGGAUACCAAAAAGCCUAAUCUUGGGGAUGCCCCGGAAGGCAUCCCCUCUUUCGUCUUCAUUCCAUCUGUAAAUUUACUUGAGGCUAUUUUUUUAUUCACCACAUAAUAUGUGUUUUGCUUGGAGUGUCUUGUAUAAUAUGAGUCUUUACUUUUUAGUUUGCCACAAUCAUCCUUUCUGCACACAUAUUUUGAGAGAGACACACACUGAAUCGUGAAUUUUUUAAAAUACUCUUUAUGCUUCACUUAUAUCUUUUGAGCUAGGUAAUGCUCUAGUACAUCACUUAUAUAUUUUAGAGCACGCGGUGUUAUGAAAUUAUUAAACUCUCGUACUUCACUUAUAUUAUUUUGAAGGUUCUUUAAACAGCAUGGUAAUUGGUUUAAGGUUAUGAAUUUAGUCCUAAUAUGAUAGGCUUCCAAAAGGGAUAUAAUAAAAACUUUCAUAUUAAGUGCAUUGAAUAUGAUGAGAAGUUUGAUUCCUUGCAUAUAGUUUUGAGACGUGAGUAUGGUGAGAUGAGAGUCAUGCUAGUAAGUAAUUGUGAAUUAGAAAAAAUACUUGUGUUGAAGCUUGUGAUUCCCGUAGCAUGCACGUAUGGUGAACCAUUGUGUGAUGAAGUCGGAGCAUGACUUGUUUAAUUAUUGUCAGCCUUUGUGUGGAGGUCGGGAUCGCGCCAUGGUUAACUCUUACCACCCCUUUUCCUAGGAGCAUGCGUCUAAUACUUUCCUUAGAUAACUAAUAUGCUUUUGCAAUAAGUAUGUGAGUUCUUUAUGACUAAUGUUGAGUUCAUGGAUUAUACACACACUCAUCCUUCCACCUUUGCUAGCCUCUCUAGUAAGCAACUUUCGCCGGUACAUUAAACCCACCUUCCUCAAAAUAACCACCAUAUAUUUUCCUCAAAAUGGACACCAAACCUACGUAUUAUGGCAUUUUCAUAGCCAUUCCGAGAUAUAUUGCCAUGCAACACCACCGUCCCGUUUUUAUGACACGCACCAUCACUUCCAUAUUGCUUGUAGAGUCAUACUUUGUUCUAAGAUAUCGAGUUGUAAUCUUUUAAGUUGUAAGUAAAUAGAAGCGAUGAUUUUACAUUAUUAGAGCAUUGUCUCGUGUGAGAAAAAAAGGAUGAUGGAAGCUAUGAUUCCCUCACAAGUUGGGACGAGUCUCUGGACUUUACAAAAAAAUAAAAGAGGCCUGCGAACCCCAUAAAAAAGGCCACAGAAGGCCAUCCAAGAAAAGAAAAAAAUGAGAGAAAGAGAGAAGGGACAAUGCUACUAUCUUUUUCCACACUUAUGCUUCAAAGUAGCACCAUGUUCUUCAUAGAGAGUUUCCUAUGUUGUCAUUUUCACGUAACUAGUGGUACACAUCUUUUGCACAACAACUUACUUUUCUUUUUGAGCUUUCAUACACUUAUAGCUCUAGUGCAUUUGUUGCAUGGGAAUCCCUACUCACUCACAUUAAUAUCUAUUGAUGGGCAUCUCCAUAGCCCGUUGAUAUGCCUAGUUGAUGUGAGACUAUCUUCUUCCUUUCUUUUUGCAACCUCCACCACAUUCUAUUCCACCUAUAGUGCUAUAUCCAUGGCUCACGCUCAUGUAUUGCGAGAGAGUUGAAAAGGUUUGAGAACAUAAAAAGUGUGAAACAAUUGCUUGAUUUUCACCGGGGUUGUGCAUGAUUUAGAUACUUUGUGUGCUGAAGAUGGAGCAUAGACAGACCAUAUGGUUUUAUAGGGAUAACUUUCUAAGACCAUGCUAUUUCGAAAGGAAGCAAUUACCUUAUUAGUAUGCUUGAAGUAUUAUUGUUUUUAUGUCAAUAUAGACUUUUGUUUUGAGUCCUAUGGAUUUGAAUAUUCAUGCCACAUUAUAAAAUAUUGCAUGGAUAAAUAUGUUAGGUAGUAUUCCACAUAAAAAUUCUGUUUUUAUCAGUUACCUACUCGAGGACGAGGAGGAAUUAAGCUUGGGGAUGCUGAUACGUCUCCAACAUAUCUAUAAUUUUUUAUUGUUCCAUGCUAUUAUAUUAUAUGUUUUGGAUGUUUUAUAUGCAUUUAUAUGGUGUUUUACAUUAUUUUUGGGACUAACCUAUUAAUCUAGAGCCUCGUGCCAGUUUCUGUUUUUUUUCACGUUUUUGAAUAUUGAAGAUAAGGAAUAUUAAACGGAGUCCAAACGGAAUAAAUCUCCGAAAAGAUUUUUCUGGACCAGAAGACACACAACAGACUUGGAGUAGGGGACAAGGCAGUUACCGGGAGGCCACAAGCCUGCAGGGCGCGCCCUGGGAGGUGGCCGCGCCCCCUGGCUUGUGGGCCCCCUGCAGGUCUCCUAACCCUAAUUCUUGGCCUAUAAAUUCCCACAUAUUCCCGAAACACCAAAAAGAGCAACAAGAAUACUUUUACACCGCCGGGAGCCUCUUUUCCCGAGAGAUCCAAUCUGGGAGCCUUUUCUGGUAAUCUGCCGGAGAGAGAAUUGAUGACGGAGGGCAUCUACAUCAACUCCAUUGCCCCUCCGAUGAUGUGUGAGUAGUUCACCACAGACCUACGAGUCCAUAGCUAGUAGCCAGAUAGCUUCUUCUCUCUGUUUGAUCUUGAAUACCAUGUUCUUCAUGACCUUCAUGGAGACCUAUCUGAUGUAAUACUCUUUUGCGGUAUGUUUGUUGAGAUCGGAUGAAUUGUGAGUUUAUGUUCAGAUUAUCCAUGAAUAUUAUUUGAGUCUCUUCUAAAUUCUUAUAUGCAUGAUUUCAUAUCUUUGCAAGUCUAUUUAAUUUAUUUGUUUUGGUUUGGCCAACUAGAUUGGUAAUUCUUGCAAUGAGAGACCUUGUGGAAACGGGCCCGCCUGUUGAGGCGGAAAGAUCGGCCGCUCGUUCGCCAUGGAUGAGCCAGACGACACCUCUUGCUCUACUUCCGCAUCCCUGGAUCUCUUCAUGAUGAGCCUGUUCUGCCAAUCCACCGAUCGGUGGUCAUCACCGCCCGCCGAUGAACGUCGGUCUUCCAUUGCGCAUUCGUCAAGCCCACGGGCCUUGGCGUCUGCGCCCUCCGCUUCCUCGCCUUUGGUACGACGGGUUUGAUGGCUUGGCGAGGGGCGGCGUACUUCUUCGGCGGCAUGGUGGGGGAGAGAAGAUGGUGAGAAUGGAGGGAACAUCGGGCGGGGGGGGGGGGGGAGGAUGUAGAUGAUGGGGAGGGAAAGGGAGGGAAAAGGAAGAAACGAUGGGAAAGUAGACCAGUGGUGCCGAUAGUGCAGCCCCACGUGACUUUUCGGUUCAUCCGACGCUCCAAGGCACCCCAAUCUUGCUCGGUUAGGCCUGGGUCCGCCGGCACCGAUUUUGGCCCAAACCGGCGUAAAACGAGGUCCUGGGUGCGCGACUGGGCGAUUUUCUAGCGUCGACGAUAAAAAAGGGGCCGGGGGGGGGGGGGCUAUUGGGGGUGUGGCUGUAGAUGCUCUAAGCAUCAUGUGUGGAUUACAAAGCUCGAUUUUUAGAAACCGAUUAACACUAUUGAACAUGAUAUUAUCCUGAAAUUCUAAAGUUUAAAGGAUUUGAAGAGAAAUGGAGAGUUCAAAUCAAGGAGAUCUUAUCCUUUGAAACACCUACCAUCCUUUGGAAUGGUGUGCCUAGUAAGAAAUUGCAAUGAAAACAUGGGAUUCAGUAUGGUGACCCACUGUUACACUUCCAUUUGUCUUGGUAGUGGAUUUACCUUAGUCUAUUCUCAAUGACAUGUAUCAUUGUGGGGGUUAUCCUUUCUAGUCCCAUCUUAUGAUCCAAACUAUCCAAUUGUGCACUAUGCUAAUUAUAUGUUGUUGAUUAUGUCGGAUGUUGAUUUCUCAACUUCUUGAACUAAAAUAAAUGUUACAACCUUUUCUAAAUCCACUCGUUUGCAAGUGAUUUUUUUUUUGUAAUCCUCCAUGGCCACUAGUAGGAAAAUGGCCUAUAGCCCGGGACUAAACAACCGGGACUAAUGCAAGCCCUGGUUCGGCCCCGAACCGGGGCUAAUGGUCCUCCACGUGGCGGGGCUUGGAGCGAGGGGGGAAGGGGUAUUAGUCCCGGUUCUUAUUACGAACCGGGACUAAAGGCUCCACCUGAUUUAUUUUAUUUCACCCAAAAAGGUAGAUUUGUUUUUGAUUUUUUUUCACCCAUCCUCACUGAGGACUUAUUCUAAAUCGUCUAACUUCUCGACCGGUCACCCAUCCUCUAACUGCUUCAACCCGAGCACACUUAAUUUUCUGGUUCUAUCGCCCCUAGUUGCCAAGUCUCCACUUGUUGUUUGCCUGACAAUAGUAAGCUAUCAAUCCUAAACAACCUGGGUUCUUGAUGUCAUGUCACAUGAUUUAAUUUUUUGAAUUCAAACAAUUAUAAAAAUAAACAAAAUAAGUAAUAAUAAUAGUGAAUUUCAAUGAAAACAACAUAAUAUUUUUAAAUAAAAUUAUUUUUCCUUAUUUUUCUCGGAAAAAACUUCUUUUUGAAAUAACUUUUUUUACAUUUGGAAUUUUGAGCAUGUGAGAAAAAUUCAGCGGGCAAACUUUUUUUGACGUCGUAUGCAAAAGUUAUGGCCGUUUUACAUUUUUUUCCUUUUUUGCAAAAACGGUCAAAAUUCAUAUCUCAAAAUUUCUAUACCAACUAGACACUAAAACCUAACUACAUCUCAAAGGAUUUUAUUUUUUGAAGACUUUAUCAUUUUUUCUUUAUUUUCUACAAAACUAAAAAAGACGGUCCGCGGGGGGUAGAGUUUGAAAAUUUCAGAAUCCCCCUUUAGCCAAGAGUCCAAUCAUACCCGUCGACUACAUCUGCUAGCACCGUCCCCGCCAGAGUCACAACUAAGGUUAACCAAGCCAGAGUAACCCUUUCUAACUUUAUUUGCUAUUUUUCAUGCAUUUAAUGAUUUUUUGAGCUAAAUGUCCCUAAUAUGGAAAAGCACUAUUAUGAACUCUGAAAAUGUUGACACGUGGCAUGGUAUUAUCAUUUCACCCACAUAGCUUGUGCUAAAAAGUUGAGAGGGUUACGGCAAAAACUGGAUGCACUUCGUGUACAAGCUGGACCAUCUCCUUCGAAGUAUCCAGGUUUCACACGAAAACCCAUCUGCUACAAAGGCAUUUUAUUUUUUACUUAUUUCAACUCCAGAAUUUUUGUGUACUUUGUGCAUUCAAUAUGCACCAUUCAAAACCACAUCCUAAAAUUUCAACCCUUUAUAACUUCAUUUGCUAUUUUUCAUGGAUUUAAUGAUUUUUUGACCUAAAUGACCCUGAAAUUGAAAAGCUCGACAAAUGAACUCUGAAAAGGUUUAAACGUGGCAUGGUAUCAUCAUUUCACCCACAUAUCAUGUGCUAAAAAGUUGAGAGGGUUACGACAAAAACUGGAUACACUUCGUGUACAAAACGGACAAUCUCUUUCGAAGUAUCAGGGUUUCGAACAAAAACUCAUCUCUUGCUAAGGGACUUCAUUUUUUGAACUUAUUUGAACUCCAUACUUUUUGUGUAUUCAAAAUGCACCGUUCAAAGCCACAUCAUAAGUUUUCAACAUUUUGUGACUUCAUUUGGUAUUUUUCACGCAUUUACUUAUUUUUUGUGCUAAUUGACCCUGAAAUUGAAAAGCACUACAAAUGAACUCUGAAAAGGUUUAAAGUUGGCAUGGUAUCAUCAUUUCACCCACAUGGCAUGUGCUAAAAAGUUGAGGGAGUUACGGCAAAAACUGAAUGUACUUCGUGUACAAAACAGACAAUCUCCUUCGAAGUAUCAAGGGUUGAGACGAAAACCCAUCUGCUAGAAAGAGAUUUCAUUUUUUUAACUUAUUUGAACUCCAUACGUUUUGUGUGUUCAAUAUGCAUCAUUCAAAGUCACCUCAUAAAUUUUCAACCCUUUCUUACCUCAUUUUCUAUUUUCCAUGCAUUUAAUGAUUUUUUGAGCUAAAUGCCCCUAAAAAUGAAAAGUGCUACAAAUGAACUCUGAAAAGGCUGAAACUUGUCAUGGAAUCAUCAUUUCACCCACAUGGCAUGUGCUACAAAGUUGAGAGGGUUACGGCAAAAACUGGAUGCACUUCGUGUACAAACUGGAUCAUCUCCUUCGAAGUAUCAAGGUUUCAGACGAAAACCCAUCCGCUACAAAGGCAUUUUUUUAAAAUUAUUUCAACUCUAGACUUUUUGUGCAUUCAAUAUGCAUCAUAUUACAACAUGUUACAAUCUACAGAAAGAGCUAACUAAAAAUAAUAAAAAACAACAAUUAAAUGACUAAAACAACUAUAUAAGCAAAACAAUAUUGUUUUAAUUAAAAACCUAAUUUAAAUUAUUCUAAAAAUAACAAAAUAAAUCUUACCGUGACAACAAUCUAACACAUGACUAGGAGCAAAAAGAAUUAAAUUAAAACUAUUUGUAAACUCAAAUUAUUCACAAUUUAGGUUUGAAGCAAAAUUGAACAAAUUCAAAUUUAAACCAAUCAAAUUUAAAAACUAAUGGCACAAACAGAAACUAGACAAUAUUUUGAAUCUAAUGCAAAAAGAAUCACUCAAAAACAUCAAAUAUCCUAAAAGAUAUAAGCAAUUUAAAACAUAAACUACAAAUAGAAAACAAAUUAAAAAAAAUUCAAAACCCCUUUAGUCAUGGUUCGUGUCUUGAACCGGGACUAAAGGUCCCUUUAGUCCCGGUUCAAGACACGAACCGUGACUAAAGCCUCCAAACCCUUUAGUCCCGGUUCAAGACACGAACCGUGACUAAAGCCUCCAAACCCUUUAGUCCCGGUUCAAGACACGAACCGUGACUAAAGCCUCCAAACCCUUUAGUCCCGGUUCAAGACACGAACCGGGACUAAAGGUCCCAUUUAAACCGGGACUAAUGCCCGACUGGCGCCCUUGUUGCUCGAACCAGGACUAAUGCUAACAUUAGUCCCGGUUCGUAAUGGAACCGGGACUAAUGUGUAAAUUAAGCUGGGACGGAAGCCCUUUUUUCUACUAGUGGGCGCUUAUAAAUGUGGUUGUCGAUGAAGCUUCUCGUUUGGCUAGUUUGUUUGAGUGCCAACUGGGUAAGAUGCCUUUCACUUAUCUUGCUUUACCUAUGUGUAACACUAGUUGCAAGAUUCAUGACUUAAUGCCUUCGGUUAAUAUAUAGAAUGGAAAGGAGAAUGACAACUAUCUCUUCUCUAGUUUCACGAGGUGCUAGGUUGAAACUUUUGAGGUCUACCAUUUCAUCCAUGCUGAUAUUACUAUCUUUGUAGUGUCUAGAUCCCUGUGGCAUAACUAGACAACUAGAGAGAAUUGAGCAGAAUGCCUCUAGUAUUAAUGCUAAUAUCCCAAAUCAACCAUUGUCGACAUUUCAUCUAAUAUAUAGACUGAAGGAGAAUGGUGGUAUGGGCAUCAGCUGGAAAAUUCAACACCAAGCUUUGCUUAGAGAAGACAUGCGCAAAUUUUAUAACAAAGCUCAUGUUCUAUGGUAUAUUUGCUAUGGAAUUAUUACAAUCAUGGACUCAUGCCUCACGCAACAGUCCUUUCUGGCUCUUACGAAUGGAGGAUAUUUUGAAACUUACACUAGAUUCGAAUAGCACUGACCGGCAAAAUAGUCUCAUCACUGACACACUUUUGGCUCGUCCGAUGCCUUGGGCUGAGUGAUGACAUUGUCACCACAGACGGGACAUCUGGCCUCUGAAUGAUGCCUAACCAGUAUUGUCCGCUGGCUGGUCGGUGAUAACAAUUUCACUCACUUUUGGAUGUUUGCGCUUUAUUUAUGUUUGUUUAUAAAAAAUGCAAAUGAAAUUGACAAAAACAUAGGAAUACCAUACACAUGCAUAAAUCAUUCAUUUGCACACUGGAUACUUUGCUUUUCACGCACGAUUCACAUGUAAAUUUACACAGUUCACAUCUACCAUAUAAAGAGUACUAAGCAAAACUGCACACUUCAUAAUACACAUGUCACUGAGGCCAUGUUCGGUAAUCCACCAGAUCUUGGAAUGUGUGGAGCUGGGAAACUGCAGCUCCCGUAUUAUGAACUACAGCUCCACCAGGUCCGCUCCCGGAGCUGUGGAGCGGAGCAUCUCCCAACAUGGCCUGAAUAUACCCAACCUCUUAUCAAACUAGAGAGGACUUACUCCCUCUGUACUUUCUCUGUUUCUAAAUAUAAGUUUUUUAAAGGUUUCAUUAGAGAACUACAUAUAGUAUAUAGACAUACUUUAGAGUAUAGAUUCAUUCAUUUUGCUCCGUAUGUAGUCUUCUAUUGAAAUCUCUAAAAAGACUUAUAUUUAAGAACAGAGGGAGUAAGUCCGCAUGCAACAAAAUUUGUCAAGACAAGUAACAUAAAAUAUCCAUUACCUGAUUUAAUACAUGUAGUUAAGAAUAUCAUAGCUAAGCUCAAUGUAAUUACACCCUGCUCGAGGAAUCUCUCGUCUGCUCCAAAAAGCAGCAGAUAAUAACAAAAGUGGAUAUUUACUGUGUGUCUAGAGAUGACAAAAUAUUUCAAGAUUGGUUUCAAAUCCUAAGAAACUGUUCUUUUCUUGAAUGAUACUCACACUAAGUACACUCAACCCGUAUCCGAAAUGAGGAGUCUAGAGUAGCCCGGACCUACUACCCUUAAGACUUGGUCUUCCCUUCUUUGAUUUUUGUGUAGUGCAACUAAAAGGUAUGUCAACUGAAAAUAUUUUUUUAUCCAGAUUUAGUUGAAUUUCAUUAGCAAUUGAAAAGUGAAGUAAUAUGUGUAGGCCAAAUAUGCCGUUCACUUGAACAAUAUUCCACUCUGUCUCCUAAUGAGGUAGUUGGUUGCGUUUAAAAUAUUUUCUAGCAUAUUCAUCACUACAUUGCCACAUAUAACAUGCAUAAUAUAUAAUAUUUUCUAACAUAUUCAUAGGUACAUGGAACACAUAGAUAUUGUAAGAUUCAUAGCAAGAUAAUUACAUGCAUCCAGAAUUGUAACACAUCCAUGGCAUGCAUAUCACAAUUGAAAUUGCAACAUAAUUAUGAAGUAAUGGAGCUAACCACCGUGGAUGACAACAUUGGGGAUGCAUGAGACACGUCAACAAUAGGGCAGAUCCUCGGGGCAGAGAAACCCCGACAAUGACACAACUACGAUGACUGAUACAACGACCACCCGCGUUGCCCUCGAAGACCCGGUGUCCUAUGGAAGGGUGGUAAUGAAUCGACGGAAAUGCGGCAACGUCCCAACGAGGAAGCUCCAUCGGUCCAUUGGGUCGUCAUACGAGCGACAUCGUCGGGACGCAAUGACCGUGAAGGAAGGUCGUGGGGCCGUUGGCAAGCCCCCCACAUAUAAGCGAACGGAGGAAGAGGAGGGAUGAUAGGUACGCCAACAGGAUGGAAGGACUCCAUGGCGGCUGUGAGGGUAUAGAAUGAAAACAUGGAGUGGACAAUGAUUAAAACAAGGCGCGUACAGAACAACACCAACAUGCUAAAAAUCAAAAGGGCAAGAUUGAAGAUGACAUUACAGACGGGUCAAAUACAGGAGCCAAUUUGAUUAUCUUAGGUCCAAUUUGAACAUCGGGACACCAUAUAAUUGAACAAUAUUUUGUAGACCAAUCUAUGAUAAUCGUCAAGAUGAGCAUAGGGAUACAUAUUACUAACACACCCUCGAGGGUCGGUCAGUGUUAUGGCUGAUUAGUGACGCAUAGUUCAAAGCCGCACAGGGAUGAGGGGCGAAUGCUAUUCUCAUAUGUAGUAUUGUCAACGAUCAAUAUAGGCCAUCUCUUCAUUCAAAGUUAAUAUGGAUGACUCUGCCCUAUUCUUCUCUGCCUGAAUGAUUGAGGGAUCUUCUCGACCUCUUUGACAUCAUUUGGCAAUGCUCUCUCUUUUGCCUUAGAUGUCAAAGUUUCUCUCAAAGAUUUUAUAGAAACGCCUGAUCAGGCCACUCUUUUGCACCUACCAAUUUCCGGUGAGGUGAUGGAUAAGCUGGAACCUCUGGAUGGUUCAUUACAUAGCCUUCAACACAACCAAACAUUGCCUGAUGUUUAUUCUUGGUCAGGAGCAUCAUUUUUUGCUAAAAGCUUCUACUCCAUUGAAAGGACGUGGAUGUCGCCUAGAGGGGUGGUGGUGAAUAGGCGCUUUAAAUGACGGUUUAGGCUUGAACAAAUGCGAAAUAAAACUAAUGUUUAAUUAGUCAAGCACAAAACCUAAAAAAACAAGGCUCACCUAUGUGCAACAAGAACUUAUGCUAAGCAAGAUAAACAAAUUAAGUGAUAGCAAGAUAUAGACCAAGAAACAAUAUGGCUAUCACAAAGUAAAUAGCGUAGGUAAAUAGGCUCGGUAAGGAGUUAACCGAGGCACGCGGAGACGACAAUGUAUCCCGAAGUUCACAUCCUUGCGGAUACUAAUCCCCGUUUGGAGUAGUGUGGAGGCACAUUGCUCCCCAAGAUGCCACUACGGUCAUCGUAAUCUCCUCACGCCCUCGCACAAUGCAAGAUGCCGUGAUUUCACUAAGGGACCCUUGAGGGUGGUCACCGAACCCGUACAAACAAGGUUGGAGCAUUCUCCACAACUUAAUUGGAGGCUCCCAACAACACCACGAAGAUUCACCACGAUGGUCUAUGGCUCCGAGAUGACCUCAAAUGCUCAGGGCAAUCUCCACAACCUAAUUGUAGACCCUGACGCUUGCCCAGAGCUUUACACCAUAAUGAUUGAGCUCCGAGGCAUCACCAAGCUUCUAGGACGCCAAAGCACCCAAGAAGGACAAGCUCUAGGGUACCAAGCACCCAAGAGUAAUAAGCUUCUCAACUUCUCACUUUCAUGUACCACCGUGGAGAACUCAAACCGAUGCAACUAAUGCAAUGGCAAGAACACACAAAGUGAUCAAGUCCCUCACGCUCAAAUCCCUCCAGAACAACAAAAGCUAUGGAGGAAUAUGAGAGGAAGACCAAGGAGCUCACUAAGAACUCCAAGUUCAAGAUCCAAGGGGUUCCCCUCACAUAGAGGAGAAAGUGAUUGGUGGAAUUAUGGAUCUAGAUCUCCUCUCUCUUUUCCCUUAAGAACUAGCAAGAAUCAUCAGAGGGAUUGAGAGUUAGCAUGCUAGAAGAAGGUCAACAAUGGGGGGCAAACACGAGCUCAACAGAUGGGGAACCAUUGGGGAAGAAGACCCCCUUAAAUAAGUUCCCCCAAAUCCAAUCGUUAUGUGCACAGGUCGUGCACAAGCGGUACUACCGCUUGGCUGAGCGGUACUACCGCUGGCACGAAAGUACCGGGCUUCAUAGGCAGAUUGAGAAAGUCAGGGAGGCGGUAGUUCUACCGGUGCGGUACUACCGCUCCUGCCAGCGGUACUUUCACUUAGCACUACCCACUCAAAAUCUGCUCGGAAGACGAAGAUACAAGAGAGCUCAAAAUAAGCGGUAGUAGUAGCGGUACUGGAGAGCGGUAGUACCACUUGAGUAGUACUACCGCUUCCACCGCAGCGGUACUUCCGCUUACGAGAAAAAAACUGCCCUGAUACUAAAAUGGCUACAAACCUGCCGUGCGGAUGAAAGAAGGGUCGGCGCAUUGGGUGCAUGGCUGACCUAAAAGAAAAACAGGGCGGACAAGCCGAUCCAAAUGUAUAAAACACGGACAAAACGAGCAUCCGUUUGGGUCGCCCUGCUGGAGUUGCUCUAACCUCCAUUAGAUAAAUAGGUAAGUAGGUAAGUGUUUUUUCCUUUUUUCCUUUGUUCCCGUUUGUAAUUAUUUAUUGCUUGCUUUUGUUUUGAAGAAAUAAAGGACGGCGGAGCUGUUACUCCAUAGUACUUACAAAAAAUGAGUUUUAUUUCUUGAUUUUCACUAGCAUGAUUACAAUCCUUCUGAAGGAGCUCAUGCAAUGCAUGUUGGAGAUUUAUUCCAAUAGUUGCAUAAUAUGGUUCGAAUGUUGUUGUUAUAUCUAGUUCAGUUAGAUGCUUAUUAUCCAGACCAUCACAAGUUCUUUAGUAAGUGUCUCUACUAAGAAUAUGUGUCAUCCUAUUCUACUAGCAAAAACCGAUGAAAAUGAUGGUAGUGACAUGGAAAAGAUACCACAGCUAUUUUGUUAUUGAUAUAAGUAAAGAAACUGAAAAUUGCAAUUGUCAAUCAGUGGGUCUUAAUGUCAAAUACAGGAAUCUUCCACCCACUAGCUGCGAGACAUCCAUUGCAGUGCUAAAUAAAAUAAACUUUUCCGAUAAUUAACAGCAAGACAAUGGUCCGCUUGUUGUAUAUUAUAAAUAUGGCACAGGUGUUGUAUAUGUGUAGGCCGUGCUAGAAUUUACAUAUGCAUAUAUGCUCCACAACCUAUGCUCGUACAAACACAGAUCAUAGAGAUGCAAAUUAUGCUCUAGUCGGAAAGCAGAGUCAUGGACAAAAGUGAAGUUCACAGAANNNNN
rnacentral:lncRNA from 1 species